AAGUACGUAAUUGUGUCGAAUACUCUCACCAUGAUUGUCGAUCUAUCGGAUCAGACUAUUACUAUGUUUGCCAAAAAUGCCUGGGCCGUAUGUGGAAUAAAUCAAUUCCACAAGGAGGGGAAACUGCAAAAUUCCGUACAAGGUCACCGGCAAACAGGCUAAUGCAGCCAAGGUAGUAAGAAUCCAUGCCUUCUUUUCACCAAAGAGAAGAUAGAUUGCGCUACUGUAGGCUAUCAUCAUGAAUGUUACGGAGAGGAAUAGAGUAACAAGGCCAAAUAUCAACCUCCUGGGAAGGGCAAAAAGAAAAUCAUCUUCUGCAUAUCGUGCCGUGAGAAUGGAUAGGCAUAUCAGCACCGAAGCAAUGGAUAGGAAGAGGGAAAGAGCAUCCGAAGCUGCAAAAACUUUGAAGGCCUUUUCUUUGGAGAAAUUUGGUAUGCCAGUAUCAUCAUGGUUGCCACCCGGGAUGGUAAUUGCUGCUGCAAACACUACAGUAGCAAUAAGCGCUGCUGCUAAUGCGUAACAUUUUGCUGUGCCUUUCAUCCAUUUCUCCCCUUCUUUUAUCAACUUUUCAUGUUCCUUUAUAAAUACCGUUUUCGGUUUAUCUUCGUUAUUGUUCUCAGAUUCACUGAAGGCUCUCGGGGCAUAUUUUUCAAUUUCCUGUGUAAAAAUCAAAAUGUUUCUAAGAUACAGAAAAAGAGUGGAUAUGUAUAAGAAAAUUAAUUCCCCUUCAAAACAAAAAUUAUUACCUUAAACCAAUGUAACUCGCGUUGCAUUUGUAGAGCUGCACCAGAAACGAGACUGAGCCGGUGCGGAGGGGCCAAUUUUCCAGCCAAAUGCAAGAUGUUAUUUGAAUCAUCUUCGGUUCGUAUUAUAAGUUGUCUAUGCAUACCGGUUUCGCAGAUGAGGUUGAAAAUCUUUUCAUAACGAUUUAAUACUGCCAAUUUGAAUACAUCCUCAUCCAGAUACUCGAGUGCAUAAGGAUAUGACUUUAUAAUCUCUUCCAGAAUCUCGGGAAUCCCAUAUUUUGCCCCAUUAAUGAAUGAUUGUCUAAAUAUUUUCUUCGCUCUUGAUACUUUCAAAACUUCAGUACAUAGGUGGUUAAGCAAUUGAAGAGUCAGAGUAUGCAUUGUUUUUGUUUCUUGGAUAUGCUUGAUGGGUGGUACUGCAAUUAAAAUUAUAUUAAGGACAACAUAACAUUGAAUUCAAGACUUUUGCAUGCUUUAGUGGUAGUUUUGUUGUGUCCCUUACCUAACCAUCCAAUCAGUUCCCAGAAUAUUGCAUUCGCCUUUUGGCAAGCUGUGUGCAACGUAAAAUUGAAGCAGUUCAGAUGCAAAAGCAGGACUAACAGGAGAAAAAACAAAAAAGCAACCUUGAAUCAAGUACCAAUUAAACACUAAUCUAAAUUAAAGUGAUCGUGAGAAGUUGCCAACUCAUAUUGGCUGGUGUAAAGUUUUUUGGGGAUUCAAUAGGUUUCAUAUAUUUCCCUUAAACCGUCACACUUGAAUUUAAAGGCUAGAAUGAAGAAGCCUAAUGAAACUUGGUACAAGCUCAAUUACUCGACUUCUUAUUAAUUAACCAGGAGCAUCAGGUGACAAGAUAUUCACAAAAUCUAUCAGAGCAAUGAAAAUUGUGUAUCCUGCAUAAAUCUCUGAGUAGUAGAGUAUUAUCCAUUGGAAUUUGAUUGUAGAGCUGAUUUCAAAUCCAUUACUCUAACUUAAAAGGAUAAAAAAUGAAGACAAUUUUCUGAGGACAAAUUAAAAUUGUGAGGACCUCGAAUUCAACAAAUUAGCAUUUCUCUACUGAGUGCAAUUUGGCAAAUUGGUUUGACUUAACUCGAAUCUCAGUGAAGUUGAGAAACCAUUUUUAGUACUCAAGUUAGGAUUUGGUCGAGUUUCUCGACCAAAAGUUAAUUUUGGUUGAGCUCAAUUUUGGGCUGAGUUCAGACCAAUGCUUCAACAAUCUAAGCUGAAUUAAACUCCAUUAAUAUUUUAUAAUAUUUGUAGAACGUAUUACUAUAUAAUAAUAUCAAAUUUUUUUAUAAAAUAAGUUUAAGGGAAAAAUCAUCAAAAUUUAUUAAGCUAACUCUCAUAAAUUUGCCUACCCCCUUGUGAACACUAUUUGGAAGGAAAAUUAAUUAGGAAGUCUCUUAAGCAAGCCAGAAAGGUAUCUUGUCCUUUGUAUCCCAUGCAUUCAAAAGUACAAGGACUAAUGAACAUGAGACCCAAGCAUGGUGCCUACUACUUCAUCACAUUUACGGAUGGUUAUAUCUAGAAGUCCAAAGAAUUGCUUUGAUUUAGAUGUUAUAUGAAUAUUGUAAAAAAAUUGAAAAGAAAAAACUAUUACAACAUUAAGGAUAAAUCAUGGACAUGAGUAUCCAUUGAAGAGUUUUAAAAAUCACUAUGAUGAAAAGGAAAUCCAAAGAACAAUGAACUGAAAAAAGUAACCAUAAACUUUUGGAUAUGGUUCACUCAAAAAGGCACAAGCCAACUAUCUAACAUCUUUCGGGGUGGGAAAGGAGGGUUACUAUUUUGAUUGCAACUUAAAUCUUGAAUAGAAUGCCCUCAACAUCAAUUACUUCAAAUCCAUAUAGUUAAGAAGCCAAACAUAACUCACUUGUAAUCCUAAGGAUUAGCAGGUUUAGUUCAUGUAAAUUCUCAUAGAUAUUGUGCUAUAAAGAAAACAAGUGCACUUUCAUUAGAUAUUCUAAUAAAUCAAAGGUUGUGUGAUGCUUAGUGAACAACUCAAUGGGAGUAUAAUUGAAAUUAAGUAAUAUGAAUAUAAUUUCUUAUAGGAUGAUAUUUUGAGUAAAGGAGCAUUGAACAUGAGUCUCAGUUUAUUUGAGGCAAUUAAACCAAAGGAAAAUACUAUGAUAUCUCAUAUCGAAUAAGGGAAAAAGUUCUUGACAUUAUAUAUAUAUAUAUAUAUAUAUAUAUGAGCUUCUCUUAACUAUUUAGACACAUUUUAAUGUUAUGAGGGCUCUUUGAGCCCAAAGUCGAUAAUAUAUAUUUACAUGGUUGGGAGUGAGUUGUUACAAAUGGUAUCAAAGUGUAUCCUCAACCAUGGUAUGAGAGUUAGUUUGUUUGGUCCUGUAAUCCUAUGGGACACAAAUGAGGACUUUAUGUCUUCAUGGGGGUGAUUAUGAUAUCCUACAUUGAAUAGGGAAAAAAGUUCUUAGAAUUAUAUAUGUAAGAGCUCUUCUUAGCCAUGAAAACGUGUUUUAAAUCUCUAAGGUCCCUUUGAGUUCAGAGUAAACAAUAUCUACUUGAUUGGGAGUGAGUUGUUAUAGAUGUUAAAGAUCUUGCUAAGGAUAUGAGUGACUCGACAAGAUAGUAACUUUGAGUAGUGACUUGCCACCUACUAGAUUAUGCCACUAAGUGUGAUUUUACCAUUACAUAUUAAGUCACUGGAUUUAGAUGUGUGUGGCGAAAAACUUGGAGCUAUCUGAUCAUUGUAAUUAUGGGCAUUAAGGUGAAGCUUUCAUGUUUGCAUCAUAAGAUCAUGAUGUUAGGAUAGAUUCUUUAAAAGCGUGAUAUGAUGUAACCAGAAAUGGAGUUCAUUAAUACUUACAUUAUGAUUUCAAUUUUCUAUUUACUAUCCUAUUUAUGAAUUAUGUAUGUUAAGGAUUCAAACCUACAUCACUUGCAUGUACAUGACUUGAGUGAAUUAGGAGUUACAUGGAAAAUCUAAGUCAUAGAUUCCUUGCAAGUUAAUAACUCAUUCACAAUUGGUUCAUGGACUUCAAUAAUCCAUUUGAGGAAUGACUUGCCCUAGUCAUUAGGAUGGGUUUCCCAUGGUGAGUGUACUAGUGUGUUUAGUUAUGUUGGGAAACCUAGAUCUCUCCAUUCCUAUAACCCUAGAUUGUAUAUGUGCAUGCAAAAUACCCUAGGGCUCUAAAUCCUAUGUAAUAGAAGCAAAAAUCAAAAUUUUAACAUUCUAUAAUCUAGAGAAAAGUUAUUAAAAACUUUGAGAAAAUAAAAGGCUAAUCUUAAUAGAGAAAACACCCAAGAGGGGAGGGGGGUGAAUUGGGUUUUAAAAAAUAUUUUUCAAACACAACAAAUUCAAGCAAAGGAAACACAAAUAUAAAGAGAUAAGGUUAGAAAGAGUAAACUCAGAUUUUAUAGUGGUUCAACACUUGUUUGCCUACGUCCACUCUCCUCAACCUCCUAACUAAGUGAAGGUUCCACUAUACUUGAAGCUUCAACCAAGCUUUUAAUCACCUUUAUACUUGGAUUCCAACUUCAAUAGUCUAUUACACAACCCCUUCAAGUCUUAACUCACUUGAAGCUUUUAACACUCAAAUAAUAAGUUCGAAUCUCUCAACCUAGCUCAACAAGGGCUCAAAUACAACUUAAAUGUUAGGAAGAAUCACAAAGGUGCACUAAGGAAUAUGCAAAUGGAGAUUUAAUGCACUAAGGAAACAAUGAGAGCUUUUGAGGCAAGAACAAGUAGGUAGACAAAUAAAUGCAGGUGUUCUCUACCUCAUAAAUGAAGUGGAGUUCUCAAUUUAUAGGUUUCUAGCCUCGGGAGCCGAAAAUGCCAAAAAGUAGUAUUGAUCAGUUGAGUUGAGGGUCAACCGGUUUACUAGCCAUUAGACAAUAAAUGCAUGGUAGGCGACCAUUAUGCCUUGACCGAUCCUUGACCAAACCUCGAUCAGAUCUCGACCGAGAAGGCAUAUCCCUCGACCAAGAAUGCAAAGCUACAAGAAGAGAGAAUAUUUUUUGCAUUUCUCAAUCGGACCUUGAUCAAGAAGGUGUAAUCGAUUGCCCGGUGCCCUAACCAGUUGAGCCGAUUGACCAGUGCCUUGACCAGUUCACCAUUUUUGGCCUAAAAACCUCUUUUUUUUUUUUUUUUUUUUAUUCUUUUCUCUUAUAACACUUAGGCAAGGUAUUUAGGUAAAUUAAUAUGCCACUUUUGAAACAAUUUGCCUAAGGUUUAUUUGCUAAAACUAGGGUUUUGACGGAAAUGUAACUUUAAUGCCUAAACUGAGUUUUUAAAGAGCAUGAAAAUAUAUGAAAUCCUAAGUGCACCAUGCAUUCAUCUUACAUAUGUUUCCUAUUAUUAAAGGGUCUUCUAAUUGUCUUGAUCUUGCAUCCAUUGGGUCCUUUGAUUAAUUUCCAAACUAAUACCUAAAUUCUUUAUAUCAAACCAAUUAACAACUUAACCAUGGUUUGUUAUCAUCAAAACGCGAUUAGGAAAACCCUUGGGCUAACAAACCUUACCUUUGAUUUGAAUGGUUCUCAAAUCAAUUCUACUAAAUGAAGAUGAAAGCCUAAAGAGUCUAGAGGUCUCAUACACCAAAAAUCUUUUGCUUGAUGACUUGAUCCAUGAUCUUGGCACUCCAAAAUGUGGGCUUUGGAAAAGAGGAAUCCUAGGCUCUCUCUCUAGAUGUAGAAGACGAUUGUCUCUCAAAAAGUGAUUGGAACCCCAACCCUUAGAGGGUAUUUAUAGCGUUGCCCUACUAGGCUUAAAUGACUUGAGCCCUCUAAGGCUUGGGUCACUUAAUCUUGUCUAAAAUGGGUCCUAAUUGAUUGGUUAACCAUAUAGGGUCAUUUAAUUAAUCAAUUCAUGUCAAUGAGAUAAUAAAGAGAAAGUAAAAAAUAUAAAUAAUAAAUUUAUAAAUAAAUCUCUAUUUGUUACAUCAUGUCACUCUUUUUAGGACUCAAUUCUAAUAGUUUACACAUUAAAUAGGAUUUACGGUGAGUCAAACAUUGGUCAUUAGGUAGUCUUGACUUCACCAAGCUGCUAUGUUGUAUAAGCUCCCAACCUUGAGAGAAUAUUGAUCUAGUGCUAAGGUCUUCAAUGGAUUUAACCCAUGAGUGAGACCCUAAAGUGGUCAUAUAUUCUCUAUAGAUUGGGUCACUACGAUUGAGGCAUGUGAUAAUAGGUAUUCUCAAGAUAAGCACCAUGAUAUCUUAGGGGUUUGAGACAUUAUGUCCCCUUAGGUGAUCCUAAGGACAUGUGAUCAUGAAAAUUGUGGCCAUAAUAAUUCCUUAAGUGGAAUUUGAUGUAUGCUCUUAGAGAGAUAUAGUAUGUCAAUUGAUCACAUAAUAGGAGGAUCUAAGACUCAAGGAUUGUAGAGGUAGUCUUGAGAGGUUGAUAACAUUCAUCUUGUUAAAUUAUGAAUACCAAUUCAUGGGGAGCUUGCAUGCAAUUGUUAGUAGGUCGCAGACUGAAGUUUUCUAUCUCGAUCUAAUAUCAUAAGGAUACUAAAGUGUAGUUGACUCUUUAUAGUUAGAUUUUGAGUCAACUUUAAAAUUUGAUUUUAGGGGAGCCAACACUUCCCUACGGGUCCUAGUGGUUUCCACUCAAACUCAUAUUCCUUGGUAAAAAAAUAUUUGAGGAAUAGUUGGAUUCUUUAUUUAUAUGUGUGUAUAAGAGCAUUUUGAUAAAUACGGAAGGUUGCACUAGUACAUAUAUAUAGCCUUUUUAGAUUCGGAUAAUUAAUUAAUUGGAACUCAAUAGAACAAAUUAGUUAAUUAGGACUCAAUGAGUUAGAUUAAGUAACCCAAACGUAAGAUGAGCUCAAGUCACUCAAGCUAAGAGGUAAGCCUAUAAAAACUCCUUAAAGGGUUUCAGGCUUAGUACUUUUCAUCCAUUCAAUCUUCUAUCUUAAUAUCUUAAUAAAACCAAAAUGAGAGUGUAGAGUAUAAAAAUAAAAAUGAAAAAGAACUUCUCAUGAGAAGUGAGGUUUGCCUCAACUCUCCUUAUUCAACCCAUUAUCACAUCUUUGGAUUUAAAAUUAUAUCAAAUAAACAUUCAAAUUGUUUUUCUCAAUGGAGAACUAAAUAAGAAGAUCUAUAUAGAUCAACUGACUUGUUUUAUGGAAACUAAAUAGAAAGGCAAAGUUAACAACUACAAAGGUCCAUUUAUAACUUACAAUAAUCAUCUAAACAAUGGUAUAUUACACUAAUGGGUUUAUGAUGGUCUAAGAACACUAUUGCAUGUUUGUUAAAUGGUGUAAAGGUAGAUUCUAUAUUCUAUUUUUUGUAUACGAAUGAAAUGUUGGUUAGGGAUGAUAAUGAGAUGGUUGUCUCUAAAGUGUGGUGGUCGUCAACUUUUAAAAUGAACAACAUGCUUAAAGCAAACUAUGUGUUCAAAGUUAUGAUCCUAAUCAAUCAAUCAAGAAGACUUUUUGGUUUGUUUUACAAAUCAUACACAAUGAAUAUUCUUGAAAAAAUUCUAGAUGUAAAAUUGAAAAUCUAUUGGCAUUCAUAUAGAGAAAGAUAAGACCUUAAGCUUUAACAUGUGUCAUAAGACUUUAGAUGAAUAAGAAAAGAUCACUCAAGGUUCCUAUAUGCUAGCAUUGUUAGUAGCUUAAAGUAUCCAAUGAUGUGUACAUGAACUAAUAUUUGUUAUAUAAUUAGGUUAGUAGCUUCCAAUUAGAUCUAAACCUUGCUUACAAAAAAGCAAUGAACCGGAUGAUUUCAUACCUCAAAGUCACCAUAGGCUAUAUAAUUUGCUAUUGAGGAUUGAAUUUGGACUUGAUUAGCUAUGACAAUGAUAAUUGAGGUAGCAUCAUAAAUGACCCCAAAUCCACAUAUGGUUAUAAUUUUAUAUAUGCUCUAUGAUGUUAGCAUAUAUUGGUGAAAUAGAAAAUAGUCAUGUAUAACAUUGUCUAACAUGCAUGGAGUUGGGAGUACAUUACUUGUCGUUUAGGAAAGUGACUAGUUUAUGAUGUUCAUGCAUAUUUUUCACAAUAUUUCUUGUUCUUUUGAGCAUACUACUAUUUAUUGUGAUAGCAUGGAAACUUUAGCCUAUGUCAAAGACCCCCCCAAGUAUCAUAGUUGAACCAAACACAUCAAUCUUAAAUAUUAGUUUAUAUGAGACAUGGUUACAUAGGAACAUAUUUCUACUUGAUUCAUGGUUAAAAAUCCCUCCCCCCCUCCCCUAUUGACUAAGCUAAUACGUAAAGAUGUUUAUUAGGGCCAAGUUGAGAGCAUUGGAUUAUGUAGAUAAUGAUUACAUAGGAGUUAAGUUAAGAGAAUUGGAUCAUGUAGAUUAUGAUUACAUAUUGUAUAUUUCAAUUAACCAUUAUACCUAUGAUUUAUUCAUUGUCCAAUCUUGUUUGAUGGUGCCAUUUAAUUAUUUAUUUUACUUUAUCGACAUGCACUUUCAUUACUUUGCACAACUGAAACAUAAUGAGUCCAAACCACUUAGAUAGUGUGUUAGGUCAUUGAUAUUUGUAGUACUCCUUUUUGUAUCCAAUAUGACUUACAUGUUAGUAGCGACCAAGUAUAGAUAGUCCUAUUGUCUACAUUUGUAAUGGAGCCAAUUGCCAAAUCUUGUUAAUUUAGUGCUUGAUUUAGUAAGCAUGUGCAAAACUUCAGUUCUUUACUUGAUGCAAUUAAACUAAGAUUUGUACGAUAUAGAAGAUCUAAGGUACACUCAUAAUGAAGAUCUCCAUGUUGGCAUGUAUAUUCAUACUAUAUCUUCUUGGUAAUCAAACAAGAAUGAAUGAAUAUAUUCCUAGCUACUUCCUCAUCCUGUGUAUUAAUCUUAUAGGUAAUUAUAUAGGAUAACUUUUAUGCCCUUGUGAUUUUCAGUCAUAAGUUACAUAUAUGGUGUAGUUUGAAAUAUUUUUCUAGGGGGAUUAACCAUGUUUAACUCAAUGUGAAUAAAUGUGUUUAAGAUAUAAUGAGACACCUUUUAGGGAUGAAUUACAUUGGUUAAGAUGAAAUUUAGUUUAAUUCUCUUACACCUUUCUUAUCAAUGUGUUCAAAAGUUAUACAAUCCAUUGGUCAAUAUAAACAUGGAUGGUAAUGAUAUAGUUGAGAGAAAUGCAUGAUGUUAUUUUGCCUACUAUGCAUGAGUGGGAGACAAUGGAGUUUCGAUUUCAUGAGAUACUCUUAGUAGAACUUCAUCAACUAAGAACUUGAGAGUAAGUUACAUACUUAUCAGUUAAGAUUCCUCAUGGGAGGAAAGUUUAGUUAAGAUUCCUCUUGUGGGAGAAGGUUCAUAUUUAGAUUUGGUGAGAAUCUGUAAGAGUUGUUUGUCUUUUUGUAAUUCCAAUUCUAGGCCUUUUGCAUAUUUUCAAUUUAGUUUGUGGCAGUUGUUAAAUACUUCUACUUUAGUUUUUAGCAAUUAUAAUUUUUUAAAGCUUGCUAUUUAGGUUUAGAUUUACUAUAUGCUUAUUAGAUAUCUUAAUUCUUAUUGUAUUCUCCUUGGUUAAUAAUCUUCCAAUUUGAUUGUGGAGUUCAAAGAUUUUAACCAAAAUAGGGAUCAGGGUUUUCAAAGUUAGGAAAAGUAUUUAAUACAAUUAAUUUUUGAAUAAGUUUGCAAACUAAAUCUUUCAAUUGAACCUAAUGAGUUUACAUACUAAAUCUCUCAUUUUCAGCCUUGGUUGUUUCCACUCUUUGCAAUUUAAUUAGUUUUUUUUCAAAUAUAUAUAUAUAUAUAUAUAUAAUUCAUUUUGUGUACCUAUAUACUCAAGUUUUUGAGUAAUUAUGAGUUGUAUUGUUAUAUUUAGUAGAAUUUGACAAACUAAAAAUGAUUACCUUUGAACAAUCGAGUCCAACAGCACAUUUGUGUGGAUAGUUCAUAGCUACCAACUUGAUUCUUCAUGCCUCCUCUAUUAGGUUGACUAAGAAAAUGGUUUAAUUUCAUAGGAACACCUUAAGAAUAAAAAUGUCAAGAAAAAGGAAGGAAAAUUAUGCUUCGUCUAAUUUGACUCAAAGACUUAAAGGAAAAAACAUAAUAAUAUAAUAGUUAUUAUAAUGAAUAUAAUAAAAAGAAAAUUUGUCAUGUUCUUCCCAAUACUCAUUAAACCCCUUUCAAUGAAACUUUGUAAGCUAUACUAAUACAAAAUAAUGGUCCAAAUAGUAAAAGCUCAAUAAAUGAAUGUUUGAUAAAUUAAUAAUCUUACUUAUAAAACAAAAUAUUCUAGUCUUAACUCAAGCCAAUGUACUAAAUUAGUAAUCUCGCUAAAUACAUAAGAUAAAAAUAUUUUCAAAAGUCUUUAAGGGCUUAAGAAAUAUAAACUAAUAAUUGAUGAAGUAUAAACAAAAAAUCAUAGUAUAGCAAAUAGAACUUCAUAACAUAGUAUUAAGUAAUUUUUUAUAACUUUUAUUUUUCUAAAUUCACUUCUUUUAGAAUUAUCACAUAUUUGAAAUAGCUUUAUCUUUUACAACAUUAAGUUUUGAUGCCACAUCUUUGUUGGGGAGUCUUUUUUUCUUUUACAAUCAAUAACUAUUUUUUUUUAUUCAGUCUCUUAGGUUUCUAUUUAUUAACUUUUUACCAUGUGUACUAUUUUCAAAUUUAUAAGUUAUACAUGUACAAAUAAUGUACAAUAACAACAUAAUACUCUUCAUCAAUUAAUAAAUAACCAUUUAUCUAUAAAUCAAUAACCUUGCUAAGAUCAUAUUUUUUCUUGGUCCCAAGAGUAUUAUUUUAUAAGAGUUUUUCUCUAUAUAGUUCCUUCAUUGUAGGAAUUUCUUUAGGUUAAUAUUACUAAAGUUGUAAUUUAAAAAAAAAAACUAUUAUGGAAACUAAGAGAACUUUGAAAGCUAUAAAUUAGUGUUUUAUAUCAUUCUUUUUUUCUAUGAAUGCCAAAGCCAUUGUCAAAUAAAAAGAGUAAAUAAAGUAAUUAGUUGAAAGUGAAAUAGGUGACUUAAAACUAUUGCUUUGGUACAUGUUUGUUUUAGGUAUAGUAGAUCAUAAGAAAUAAAAUCCUCUAGCUAUGUUUAUUUGAUAGAAUAAAAAAGUGAGUGUGUGGUUGCUCCACAGGAGAAGACCACAUGUUAGCCAAAGAAUAAGUAACUAUAAAGCUUACAAAAGUGUUAAAUGAUCAAUUUCUCACCUAAGCACAUUAAUGAGAACUAAAUGAUGAAUUAAACCAUACUCAUGCACCCAUACUAAGACCCAUGCCUCCAUGCGGGGAGACCCUAAUUGGUCCCUAAAAGGAGAAGUUUAACAAUGGCCACAUCCUCUAUGCCAUGUUAUUAUUCCAAAAACAUAGAAAGUUAACCUUUGAGUUGAUGCUUAUUUGUUUGGUAGUUUCCACAUUCUUCUUACUAACUUGACAUUUGAAGGCUCUACGACCAUAAGGAGCCUAGAGUGCUCACUUUAGGUUCCUUAUGAUUGUAAGGUCCUAACCAUCCAUUGAAGUAAGAAAGUGAACUAAGAGUUGGAAAAAUGGUGUCAUCUAUGGUUAAGAUACAAAAAUUCAGCUCACCAAAAAAUCACAGUAAAGCUACUAAAAAACACCCCACCCCCAGGCAAGGACCUUCAUUUAAGUACUCCUUGAGGUAUAUCCAAAUCAAAGACCUAAAGUUGAAGAAAUGAAGUCAACUAAACUUGGUUCCAUGCAUGAUAAGGUUGAAAAGCCUGCAUAAAAACCUACAUAAAGCUUGCUCCUUUAUAAGAAUAACCUGAACCUACAAGGGAAGAAGACCUAUAAAAGGAAAUCAUAAACAACAAAGAAAAAAAAGUCCCUCUCUCCUUUGAAAAAGAUUUCUUUGAAUGCAGAAACCUAUUUUUUGUAUCAAAAAAUUGGUGGAAUAAAAAUUUUCAAUUAUCUAUGAAGAGUGUUAGCUUCUUCAUAUGGGAAUGCAUUAAAAGCCUUGAAGACAUUGUUUAGAUCUAUAGCAACAAUUGGGCAAUAGAAAACUAUGCAAUAGAGUUUUGGUAGGGAAAGGCAAUCAUGAUAGAAAUGAAGUGGAGCAAUGAGUGAGAGCAAACCCUUCAAUAGAUGGAAGAGCUCAUUAAAAGAAGCGACUAACUCACUCAAGAAAAUGUUGCCUUUAGGGUAAGGGUAGACAAAUACCAAUGUGACUUUGACCAACAGCUCUCAUUGGCAAGCACCAAUAAGAUGCAAGUUAAUGAAUAAUAGUUAUCGAAGCAACUAGACCAACAUCUAGAUUAAAUUGGGAGAGAAAGGUGGGAUAAACCUUAAUUAAACUAACCAAACAGACCACCUUGCCAAAGGCCCCAAUGCUCUAAGGGAUUCUUGCCACCAGAGCUACCACAAAAUGCAUAAUCUUGGUGAAUAAGGUGAUUGAGCCCAAGUCCCUUUAGAAGGAGAAUGAGGCCAUAUGAGAGUUUUCUCUCCCUAAGUUCAAUUUCUUUCAAUGAAACUAAAGACACCCUAGACUACUUAUGCAUUUCUAUGCAUGUGAUAAUCUUAGAGAAGGGAAACAAUCGACUUUUAUGCAAAAUCUUCCCCUCCAUCCUCCAAGGACUAACUUUGUUUUGUCUUUAUCAACUUACCUUAGAGUUUGCUCCUGAUAUCGAGACCCUAAGGGUGAAGUAUGCCUCUUAGUACAUGCACUUAAAGAUUAUCUACUAGAUUUGAGCAACUAAGCAAGGUAUCAAGAUAGUUAUAGAAGCAUAUGGCAAUUGAAGCAAAAGUCCUCACAUCCUUGCAUGAAGCAACUACCACUUGCCCACAUGUCAUAUGCUUCUCUAAUAAAGGCUUAAGAGGAGUCCAAACCCUGCUCAAGAUCCAUUGGUUAUUACUUUAAGAAUUAUUGACUACAACAUGCACCUAUUUUUAGUUGACCUAACAAGUUUAGUUAACUUGCUAAAUAUAUUAGCCCAUAUAUGAACAAGUGAAUAUGGACGAAGGAAAACUAGUGUCAAGUCUUGGGUCGUUUGUGGGACUAGACAAAGUCCUAUGUGGCUCAACUAGGGAAGUCGCUCUAAUGGUUCCAAUUGGUUGUUGCCAUAUAAUGACACAAUUCUUUGUUAUGGAUAUCCUUUUCCCGAUAAUGCCAUUAUGGGAUGACCAUGGAUAUACAACCUAAGAGGAACACUAUUCACAUACCAUCACACCAUUAAAUUCCUAAUACUACAAGGAAUAUGGGAAAUAUAUCGAGACUAGGUGGCAUCAUGAGUAUGCUACACCAUAGCCCUUAAAGCGGUCAUCAAGUGCAUCAACUAGGACCCUUAGGAAGUUCAUAAAUCAAAAGUCAAAUAAAAAUUAGUAGGUGACCCGAGAAGGCAAUUAGAGAACCUAGGGAGUCAUUAUUCUAGAGCCCCUAAACCUAGGAGGUUCCUUCUAGCCCAUGCAAAAAAAAAAAAAAAAGGUUUCAGAUGGCUAUUAGAAAAGAACACAUCUUUACUAGGAAACUACAAGACAUCGUGGGCAUUGAUCCCCAAGUUACAUGUCAUCAACUCAACAUAAACCCUAGUGGUUAGCUCCUUAAAGACAUUAGAUUGUGAAAAAAAAGGUAUCUAGGCUCUUAGAUGCUAGAUUUGGUCAUCUAGGUCUUCUGACAACAAAUAGAAGUUAGUAUGCUAGUUUACAUUAAUAACAUGUUAGUAACAAGUAAGAAGAGGAAUGACUACUUGAUCGACCUCCUAAGAACAUUUCAAACUCUUCAAAAGUAUUAAAUGAAGCUAAAUAAGUGAAGUGCAACUUUAAUGUAGGGUGUGGAAAGUUCCUUAGGUACUUGGUUACAUACAAAGGAAUGAAAGCUAACCUAGGCCAAAUAAAAUCAACUUUGGAGAUACCAAUGACCAAAAGGGCUAGAGAAGUCCAAAAGAUCACUAACAAGAUUGGUUCUUGAAAUAGAUUUAUAUAUUGAACAACAACUAUGUGUCACCCUUUCUUCGACAUUAGCAAGAAGGGAAAAUGGACUAAAAGAACCAAAAAAUGCAACUAAGCCUAUGAAUCACUAAAGCAUUACAUGAUGUUAACCCCCAUUCUGGAUAAACCCUAGGAUAAGGAGGUCUUACAAGGUCUCAAUAGCAGUAGUAAGUGGAGUCUUAUCUCAAAAAAAGAGGAAAAAAUGAGCAAUCAAUGUACUAUGUCUAAAAGACCCUCUUAGAUGUGGAAACCUGAGAUAUAUAUAAAUAUUGAAAAACUGGUGCUUGCCCCUUAGAUCGCCACAUUGAAGCUUCAAUGUUACUUCCAAGUGCAAGGUAAGAACUAAGUGAUGAGAACUCAAACUUAAUACUUUAAUGGCUUUAAAGGGCCCACUUUAGUGUAUUUGAGGUACUAAAAAAUUAACCUAAGGUUUUGUUUUUUGUAUAAUACCUUAGAAAAUUAUGUUUGAUGCAUUCUAUGACCAUUCUACAUGCUUUAAGGUGUUUUUUUUGUUAGAAUAGAAUCCUUAAAAGCAUGACAUGAUGUAAUAAAUUUGGAAUUCAUUAUUUAUUUACUGAUGUUCUAGUUUCACUUUUAUCUAUCCUUAUUCCAUGUAUUGUACUUUAUGAGUAUUCUUGCCUACAUCUUUUGCAUUGUACAUGACUUAGGUGCAUUAGGAGUUGCACAGAAGAUUUAAGUCAUGGGUUUCUUGCAAAUAGAUUAUUUGUUCACAGUCGGUUCAUGAACCUAGGCAAACCAUUAGAGGUUGUAGUGCACCACCUCCUAAUUGGAGGGAUGGUUAGUCUUGGCCAUGGGAUGAGUUUCCCAUGAUAAGUGCACUAGUGUGUAUGGUUGCACAUUGGAUAGGACCUAUGGUGAGUUAUGACUUAACCCUAUCAAGUAGUCAUGACUCCACCGAGUUGUUUCAUUGUAUUAUCUCUCAACCUUGAGAGAAUAUUGAGUUUGUGCUGAAGUUAAUAAUGACUUUGAUUUAUGGGUGAGGUCGUAAGUUGAUCAUAUAUUCCCUAUGGAUUAGGUCAAUGUUGAUGGAAGUCGGUAACAAUAGGUAUUCUUAAUAAAGGCACCAUGAUAUCUCUUAGGAUUGAGACAGUGUGUCCCAUUGGAUGAUCCUAAGGAGGUGUGUUCAUGGAAACUAUGGCUAUAGUAGUUCCUUAAGUGGAAUUUGACAUAGACUCUUUGAGAUCUAAGAUAUGUUAAUUGAACAUACAACAGGAAGAUCUGUAGCUCAAGGAUGGUAGAAGUAGUCUUGAAAAGCUAAUGGCUUUCACCUUGUUAGACUACGAACACCAAUUCAUGGGGAGACUAAACAUAAUGGACAGUAGGUCACGGACCCGAGCACUUAGUGUCUUCGUUGUUAGUUACAUAGGAUACCGGAGUUUAGUUGAUUCUAUGUAGUGCAAUGUUGAAUCAACUUUAAAAUUGGACUAUGAGGGAUCCAUGGUAUUCCUAUAGGUCCCAAUGGUCCCUGCUAUGAGCUUAUAUACCUUGUUGGAAUGGGUAAUGAGGGUUGGAUUGACUCUAGGUUCACUUUUGUGCAUAAGGGUAUUUUGGUAAUUAUGUAAGGUUAUAUAGGAGUAAAUGAACAAGGCCUCUAGAUUAGGCUAAUUGAUUAAUCAAUUAGAACCCAUUUUGGGCUGGAUUAAGUUACCCAACCCAUGUGGGCUCAAGUCACUUAAGCCUACUUAGAAACCCUAUAAAUACCCCCUAUGGGUUAGGGUUUCCAUAACUUUUGUCUUCCAUCAUCCAAAGAGAUAGAAAGUCAUAGCCUUCACCAUCUUUUCCUCCUCAUUGGAAGUGUGCCAAGAUCAAGGUUCGAGUCAUCGGGCGGAAGACUUCGAGUUUACGAGACUUCUGGGAUUUCAAUUUUCAUCUUCACCAUGUAGAUUUGAUUCGAGAACACCCAAAUCUAAUGUAUAGUUUUUGUUAGCACUUUUUGAAUCCUUUUAAAGUAUAAAAAUGUUAUUUUUCUGUUGUGCAUAGGAUUUAGAAAAAACCUAAGAUAGUUAUGCAUGUUCCUAACCUGAUUCAGACUAGGGAAACAGAGAGAGAUUCAGGUUUUUCCCAUCAUUUUUAGUGCAAUAGAACCUUGUUAGGAACUCAUAGAGACAAAAAUGCCCAAGUAAGGAGGAAAUACAAAUUGCACACCCAAAAGGUGUGCAAGACUCAAUCAUGCACUUCUUUCUUUUUGUAAAGCCACAUAGUACACCUCCCAUGUAUACCUUAAAGACCAAACACACAAGACCUCUCUAAUGCUUUGGACCAAAUUUUAUACCCUAUUCAAGCAACUCGAUCUGCAAACCUCUUAAGUGCUUUAAGCCAAGAUGUUGUGCACCCCCUCACUUGAGUCAACAGGAUGUGUAGUAGUGCAACCCCUUGAUGUCAUCUAAAUUACAAACCAUUCUUACCUCUACAAUAGCUAAGUACUUAAUAAUUCUUCUAAUGAUUGGCUCACCCACCAAAGUAGUAUGUUGUUCAUACCUCAAAGUCUUCAAUUGUACUACCAAAACGUACCCUAACCAAAUUACAUAGAGAAAAAGGUGCAACUACUGACCAUAAGCUAACUAAUCAAGAAUGAAGGUGGUUGAUUGCAAUGACAAAGGACGUGACCCUUAGUAUAAGAAGAGACAAGUCUAGAGGAGUGGUGUCCGAGUAGUUGGAAUGACCGGGGAGGGAGGGGGGACAUUGUUUUGUAUAUAAAUGGAGGAUUGUGAAUAUACAAGUGGAAGAAAAUUAUAGAAAGUGAAAUUGUAGAUAAGUUUUUCUUCUUAUAGGAACAAAAGUAGGAAUAAGAGUAACUUAAUGUAAUUUAAGUUUUUAGGUUUCCAUUGUAAUCUUUUCUUUUCAUUAUAAACUUUCCUUAAUUUCUAGUUUAAUGAAUUUUCUAGUCUUUUUAAUUAUUCUUACAUUUCAGUUUUUCAAUUUCAACUUACAAAUUUGCAUUUUUAAUUCUUUACUUAAUUUUUAACAUGCUUAGAUAACCUUUAACACUCUAAGGGGUGAGAGGAGCUCAAGUCUCCCAUAUCUUAGUUUAGCUAUCUAUUGGUUUAUUUGUGCAUUAGUUACAAACAAUAUGAUCUCUAUCAGUAGUUAUAAUGACCAAAACAAGUAACCAUGGGGAAAAAGUCUAUGUUGCAUUGGUUGUGAGCAUUGUACGUCAAGCAAAUUUGGAAGCAUACUUAGGCAUUGUUUUAAUGAUUCUUUCAACUAAGUAUAGGCCUAUUGCCAUGAAAAUAAUCUUAUCUAAAUCAUUUGGUUGUAAGGAUAUAUAUAUAUAUAUAUAUAAAGAGCAAUUAGAGAGAGAUGAACCUUAUUAAGGUGGUUCUUGUUCAUUUGAAGCAGGAAACCUUUUUUGUAUAAAUCCUUGCUUUGAGCCUAAAUCUGAAAGCAUAAGUUCAAAGCCUUGUUGGUGAGUUGUAUAUGAAAGUGGUGAUCCUAGUGAAUCUCUAGGUUUGAGGUUUUCUUUCCUUUAAUUUUCUAUCUUUUAAACUUUGUGUGUGUAUGUCCUUUUUAUUUAUAAAAUCAUUUUUCUAAUCUUUUAGCUGCCAUUCACACUCCUAAAGCUAUUACCUUAGUUGCUAACAAUUUAAAGUUCCUUGUGGAGGCAACCUAACAACUAUACCACUAUUAAUUUUUUUAUUUUUUUAUUUUUUGGUUAAGGAGUUGAGAGUUUCAAUGAAUGAUCUAGUUUAAUUUCUCUUUGUAAAACUUAACUGUUAAAUAUAUUUCCAAGUUUUGAUAAAAGGAAUGAAUUAGAGAAUGACAAACCAAAAAUUAGUGUCGUCACUAGGGAACUUUCAACAUUGAUGACUCUAUAGGUAUUUUUGUGUAUAUGCUUGUUGUUUUAGAAGCUUAACAAGUAUAUUUCACCCAUUCCCCACCUAUCUUUUAGUUGGAUUUUUUUCUUUUUUUACUUAAUUUGUUUUCUUUGGAUUUUCUUUUUAUUCUCAGUUUUCAUUUUUAGUUGUUAAAUCCAACAUUUCAAACAUUUUCUUUAAAGUGAUAUGAUGUAUUAGGGAAAUGAUUUUAAAAGAAGGGUACUAAGAGUGAGUUUGAGAGUGAUUCUAUGAAGCGUUUCUAACAUUUCUAACACUUAAGUGAUAAAAUGUUGAUCUUCAAGGCAUCAUCAGAGGGCUUCUCAAUAUCUCUUCUACUGAAAAAAAUUUCUUGACUGAAAGUGGCUCUUAACUAGAGGGGAGGGCAUCCCAAAAAUUUUAGGAAACCAUGAAGAAAAAUUUAUCAAAAUGGAUGCUUCCAAUCUACCUGUGGGAAGUAAAGAAAAAGUGAAGAGCCAUUGGCUAGCUAGAAGCUAGCCAAAAACUUGUAAAUAGCUUUCAUUUUUUAUUUUCUUUAUUAUUUUUGUUUAUAUUGCUUUGGCCAAUUUAGUGUGUAGGAGUACCAUCAUAAGAACUCUAAGUAUAAAUUUCUCUAUACUCUAUUGGUUUUAUCAUGCUUCAGAGUAGGUGUAAAUUGUUAGCACCAGGAAAGUGUUGGACAUAUAGGAAUUGCGCACUUUUGAGGUUUGCUAACCCAACUUGUAUGAUGACUUAAAUUGCGUAUCUCAAAUUGUACACUUUGAAAGCAUGACUGAAACUCCACACCCUAAGAGAUUAAUUUAAACGGUGCAUCCAAAGGAGCGCAACUAAAAACUGCACACCUUUAAGCAACCAUUGAUAUUGCCCAGCUUAAAUUACACACCAUAAGCACGCCAUCCAUACUAAAAAUGCCUUCCCAAAUAAAACCAUAAUUGCUUAGAGACUUUUGUCCACCCCACCAUCAUAUCAAUUGAGGUGUGGGUAGCCAACCAAAUUAAUUAUUAUCCAAAGACAGAAAAUUAAUUAAACAGGAUUAGCAUAAAAGAAAAUAACUUGACUUAUAAACAAAAGCAAGGGAGAUGCAAUGGCAAACACAAAGCAAUUUAAAAGGGGCAAGCGAGUAAAGAAACUAACAGUGAUAUAUUAUGAGUUGCCAUAAGUUGAAGCGACUUCCACUUCGGAAAGCCCAAGGCCUUUUAGCCAAUACCGUCAAAGGGGCUUUAUCAUCAUCAGAAUCUUUAGCAUCACCGAAAUUGCAUGUGGCAAGGUCAGGAUAACGUUCAACCAGAUGCAGUGCUACAUCUGCAUAUUAUAAAAUUGUACAUGGGAACCCGACGGUAAUUCAUAUCAAGAAAAUAGAUAGGGGAUGGUAAAUAUAGCUCACCAUGAAACCCCACCAUUAGUGCUCUGCGCAGAAGUUCGAAUCCAGGCGAAUUUGAGAAAGGAUAUGGAGGUUCAUCAUCUCUGGUGACGCUUAAUAAAUAUAAAGUCAGCUCUUUAUGACCAUACCUAACAGCGCUGUGAAGAGGCGCAAAAUUGUCGCGUUGGCAGAUAUUGGGCAAGCUUGGGUUUUUGUUCACUAACAACUUGACUGCUUUUAUAUUGCCAGCCCUUGCAGCGUUGAAAAGGGCAGUGGCGCCAUCAGAAUCCCGCAGAGCCAGUGCCUCACUUGGCAUAAACUCAACCAACUUCUCCACGAAACCCAUUCUGGCCUCUCCUAACUCAACUGCUAUGUGAAGCAUUCGGGAAUCAUCUGUUCCGAUCGGGGCAGAGAAUGAUCGUGGAUCAUCCUUCAAUAAUUUUGGAGCACUUUCCCAGUCACCAUUGAGCACAGCUUUGUACAGUUCCAAGUAAUAGAAUUCUGCAGUCACAAAACCAAAAGAUGUAUAGGUCAGCCUAGAUUUCCCUGAUAUCUAUAUUACUUCAACGUUCACAAAAUCCUAAUACUAAAAUUAUUUUUUAAAAAAUAAAUCAUUUAAGUUAUGUUUGGUUCUUAGAAAAUUUGACAAAUAAUACAAAGAAAAAUUUAAAUAAUUUAAAAUUUAAUAAAUUUAUAACUAAUUUUAAUUACAUUUGAUUUUCUUAAAUAUUUUUUUUUCGAUAAAACCAAAUACGGGAAAAUCAUUUUCCUUGAUAUCUUUUCUUUGCUAAUUAUUUUCUUAGACUUCUUUGUUUACCUCUAAUCAACAUCUUUCUAUCUUUCAAUAAUAGUUUGAACCUCCAAUAAACUACAUGAAUUAAAAUUUAAUUUAGUUUCAUUUUUUUUUAACAGCAGGUUGUAAAACACUUCUACUUGUAUACUAAUUAUGCCCAAAAGUUGCAGGAGGACCUCAAACGGAAAUGGACAUGAACAUGGUUUUUAGCAUCUUACCGGAGCUGCUAAUCCUUUGCAAAGAUGAAGGGGAAGAGACUGGAGCAUAUUCAUCAGCAAUGUCGAUUACCAUUGUUUGGGCUGUCAUCGAUUACCGAGAUGGAAAUGAAGAGAAGUCAUUGCAGUAAACUCCUCACCAUGCUCAGCAAUGUCGAUGUCACUGUUUUUAGGACUGUUUGCGCUGUUGUCAUUUCUAAGACGUAGUGAAGAAGAAGAAGCCUUUACAACAAAUUCCUUAUCGUGCAUAUAGUCAUUGCCAACUAUAUGGAAGAUUAUAUUUAACUGCAGCCCUUUUUCCCAGAGUCUUCAAAAGAUACAGGAAAUGGGCCAGGAACCAUUGAAGCAUAAGAGGUGCAAUGAUAGAGUCUUCCAAGUCAACUUUAUUUAGUUGAGUAGAUAGCGUUGAAAAGUUUUGAUAAUUUUUAUUGCGAAAAAACGAUGUUUUAUAUACUUUUAUUUCUAUCAUACUUUAUUAUUGUUUAUAAGAUAACGAAAUAUUCAAAUAUGAUAAACAAUAGUAAACAUAUAUCAAAUAUAAAAAAUUUCUCACAAGAGAUGCAAUUAAUAUUUUUUUUCUUCAAUAAUGUGUAUAAUAUAUACCAUGUGAUGUAUUAUUUCUAUUUUAAGUUUUGUUUGGAUGUAUUUUUUAUUUUUUUAUAUAUAAAAAAUGAAUUAUAUUUUAAAAUUUAUAUGUGAUAUAAAAAGGUUAUUAUUUUUUAGUAUUUGAUAUAAUACAUUUAUAUAUUUACUAAAUUAUGACAAUAAAUGAAAAUAAAGUGGAGCGGACGAUGUAGGUUAAGGAUUAAUGUCUUUCACAUUAUAACAUCUUUCACAUUUAAUCCUUUCUGAUGUGAAUGCAGUACAGCAAAAGAGAAAGUACCAUUAACUUGAAUGCGAGAAGGGUGAUUGAUCUAUCAAUCUGUACGUGUCCUUCUUGAAAGGGACCAGAUUCUAUGGGGUAGCUUAAGGAUUAAUGUGGGUGCCUGUAGCAUGAAAGUGGAAGGAAUUAAUCCUGUGCACCACACAUUGCUAUGAUCGUUUGCAAUAACCAAUUAUAUAAAAUCUAUUGAAAUAUUUUAUAUAAUUAACUUUUUGGAAUUUUUUUAUCAAGUUGUAAAAUAAAGAAAAUUUAGGAAAAAAUAUUUUUGUAAAAUGAUAAAAUUUUACAAAAAUGACAUUUUUUUUGUAAAAUGUAGAAAAGGAUACAAGGCUAUGAAUUCAUAAUUGUAUGAUAACCUUUUAGUAUUUCAAUCUUUGAAUUUUUUUGGAGAUUAUUUCCAUAAAUUCCACAUUCCAAAAACAAUGAUAAUCUUUACACAAUAUUAUUGUCAUUUAAAGUGGGAAAAAAUAUAAAAAUAAAAUAAAAUUUUCAAAAAAUUUAGAGAUUGCAAAAAAUACGAGGAUAUGAAGAAUGUGAGGAUCGUCAUAUUUUUCAUACCCUCCUCACAUUCUUCAUACCCUUACCCAUUUGAAUAUUUUAAUCUUUUAAUUUUUUUUUCAAAUAGUAUUUACUUCAAUUUCAAGUGUAAUUAGUGUUUUUACACAAUACCAUUGUCAAAUGAAGUAAAAAAAAAAAAAAAUCAAAAUUAAAAUUUUCAAAAAAUUUAAAGGGUACAAAAAUGCGAAGAGGGUACGAAGAAUGUGAAGAGCCUCACUUUUCUCGUACCCUCAUCACAUUCUCCAUACCUAUUAUAAUUUAUAAAUUUUAAAAAAAAUAUUUUUCAAUUUUUUUAACAUUAUUUGCAUCAAUUUCAAGUGUAAUUAAUAUUUUUACCCAAUAUUAUUGUAAAGUGAUGUGAAGAAAAAUUUAAAAUUAAAUAAUUAAAUAAUUUUAGAGGGUACAAAAAAAUAUGAAAAUAGUAUGAUGAAUGUGACGAGGGUACGAGAAAUGUGAGGAUACAAGAAAUUUAAAAUAAAAAAUAAAAAUCUCAUACCCUCCUCACAUUCUUCGUACCCCUACAAAUUUUUAAUAUUUUAAUCUUUUAAAUUUUUUGAACAUUAUUUGCUUCAAUUUCAAGUGUAAUUAGUCUUUUUACAAUAUAUUAUUGUCAAGUAAAUUAAAUUUAGAGGGUACAACAAAUAUGAGGAGUGUGCGAGAAAUGUGAAGAGGGUAUGAGAAAUAUAAGGGUACAAGAAAUAAAUAAUAAUAAUAAUUCUCGUACCCUCUUCACAUUCUUGUACUCUCCUCACAUUCUUUGUAUUUUCACCAAUUUUUGAAUAUUUUAAAUUUUUUUCGAAUAUUAUUUGCUUAAGUUUCAACAAAAUUUUCGUACCCCACCAAUUUUGUAAUAUUUUAAUAUAUAUAUAUAUAUAUAUAUAUAUAUAUAUAUAUAUAUAUAUUAACAUUAUUUGUUUCAAUUUCAAGUGUAUUUAGUCUUUUUACACAAUAUUAUUGUCAAGUGAAGUGAAAAAAAAACAUAAAGUUAAAAUUUUCAAAAAAAUUAAAGGAUACAAAAAAUGUGAGAAGGGUAUAAAGAAUAUGAAGAGGGUGCAUGAAAUGUGAGGGUAUAAGAAAUAAAAAAACAAAAUACUCAUCCCCUCUUCACAUUUCUUGUACCUUCCUCACAUUCUUUGUACCUUCACCAACUUUUGAAUAUUUUAAUCUUUUAAUUUUAACUCAUCUACCCUUACAAAUCGUGUCUUUAAGGAAUAUGAGCUUAGAGCAGGAACCAUUGGGAUCCAUAGGAGUACUGGCUCCCUUAGAAUCAAAUUUUGAAAUUGAUUCAACAUCCCACUAUAGAGAGUCAGCUGCACUUUAGUACCCUAUGUACAUUACAAUAAGACACCAAGUACUUGGGUUUAUGAUCUACUAUCUAUUGCAUGCAAACUCCCCAUGAACUUGUGUCCGUAAUUGAUUACUACCAAAAAGUACUAUUUUGUAGAUCUAAUUAUAAUGGUUUUAAGCACCUUUAAGUAGUAAUCAUAUUCAUUUAACCCAAUUAAUUCAUUAAGGUCCUUAGUAAUUGGUUUUAACCAUUUUGUGGCAAGUUUACAUGUUUUUAUUAGCUUGUGAACCAAUUCAAGCAUGCCAAUUGAUGGAGGAGCUAUUUGGGUGAGUUAAGCAAGGAUUUUGGACAAUUACAGGCUUGAAUUUCAAGUGGAAACACGAGCACAAGCAAUGGAGAAGAGGAAAACAGAGUGAAGAAAACAGCUGCAGUCUUCUUUCGCACUUUUGAAGCACUUCCCGAAGUCCAUUUUUUGCAUGCUAUAUACCAUUUGAAAUCUUAGAAAGUCAAGAAUCCAACGCUUCAAACCGUGUAUGAUUUGGAGUUGAAAUGAGGAAGAUAUGGCCUUUGGAAGGCAACUGUAUCAUGUCAAAUGACCAAUUUCGCAAGGUGAAUUUCACAUUGCGAAAAUUUCACAAGGAGAUUUUCUUCAUGGUGCGAAAUUUUGCCACUUCGCACCAUGAAGAAACACCUUGCGAAAUUUCGCAAGGUGGAUUUAGGCACAUUGCAAAAUUCCUUUGAAUCCCCUGUUUUGAGACGUUGUUGAUGUUAUUCCACUGCCGGUUCUCCAAGAUAUUUUGCUUGAUUUUUAGCUUUGUAAAUACCUAUUUUACCCUUGUAAUCAACCAAUGAAUAGGUUGCUUUUGUAAUAGCUCUUGUAAUUUAGCUUGUUAUUGUCUUUAAAUAGAGGUGAAGAGCCUCAGAUCAUCAAAUCUUGUAACCUGUAACUUUAUAAGUUAUAAGAGCACUUUUGUUCAUACGCUUCUUUUCUCUUUUCUUUCUCAUUUUCUUAGUAGCCAAACAUCCUUGGGGGAUGAAAUCCCCAAGGAUGAGAGGCUUAAACCUUUUAGUUUCUUGAAGUAAUGGAUGCCAUGUGAAGCUCCCGUGUCAGGAUGGAGAUUUCCAAGCCAUGAAUGUAAGUAGCUGAGCGUCAUAAAUGUUUUCAUUCAAAGUAAAGCUUUUAAUCCCUCUGACUUGCUUUGAAUGGCCAAUACUUGAUAAUCUUUUGGUCUCAAUGGAUUCUUAUUGUUAGAUCCACUGACGUUCAUUAGUUAUCUCCUACGAGCCAUUGUAUUGCAAGUCGAGGAGAUGCCCUAUAUCAUUAAAAGGGCAUUUAUGAGGUUCAACUACCCUUUUUGUAAGUUUUCAAGGACUAAAACUCAGUUGUUAAACUCAUACCGGUUCGGGAAGUAAGCAUCACCUUAGUUGCUUUCCCAACUCGAGGUGAAAAGUCCCAAAAUCUCCAUUUUUUCACAGUGAGUUAAGCAUGGCUAUCCAAAGCUUUGAGAAACUUCUUUUUCCAUCUUUUAACCUAUUUUCAUGUUAGUUUAGUUUACACACCUUCAUCUUUUUAUGUUUUCAUCUUAACCUAAUUUUUAUUAAGAAAAGUUCACUCCAUCCUCCGAACUUCACCAGUUAAAGUAAAAACUCUUCCCAGUGUUCGAUCCUAGAGCCACUAUGCUAUAGUAGCUUUGCUACUUUAGUGUAAGGACCUUAGGUAUAAAUUUUGUUGAUACCCUUACAUGCCAAGCUACCAAGAGUCGGGUUAUCAGUAAUCUAAUAAGGUGGUGUUGUCACCUAUCAAGAUUACCCCUCAAAUCCUUUAGUUAUAGAUCAUACUUAUUACGUGAUUAAAUGACAUACUUUACCUCUAAUGAGCAUAUGUCAAAUUCCACUAAAGGAAUUAUUCCAUGAUCACAUGUCCUUUGGAUCACCCAAGGGGACAUAUCGUCUCAAUCCCAUGAGAUAUCAUGGUGCCUCUAUUGAGAAUACCUAUUGUCAUUAGCCUCCAUCAACAGUGACCCAAUUCAUAGGGAUACAUGGCCACUUUAGGGUUUCACUCAUAGCUUAAAGUCUUCUAUUAACUUUGGCAUAGACUCAAUAUCCUCUAAGGUUGAGAGUCUAUACAGUAUACUAGUUUGGUGAAUCAUAACAAUUGAUAGCCUUGUGUCAUGAUUCACCGUAGGUUUUGUCUAGUGUGCAUCACAUACACUGGUACUCUUCAUAGGAAACCCAUUCCAACGGCUAAGACCAAUCAUCUCUCUAAUUAGGAGGUAGUGCACUAUAGUCUCUACUGGAUUGCCUAAAUCCAUGAACCAAUUGUGGACAGCUUAUCUACUUACAAGGAAUCCAUGACUUGUACUUUUGUGCAACUCCUAAUGCACCUGAAUCAUGUACAAUGUAAGAAACAUGGGUUGAAUGCUCAAAUCAAUGUUAAUACACUAGAGGGAUAACAAGGAGACAGUUAAGUCUAACUUUGUUACAUCAUGUCUUGCUUAGUUAAGUCUAACUUUGUUACAUCAUGUCUUGCUUAGUUAAGUUUAACUUUAUUACAUCAUGUCUUGCUUUUAGGGUCUUAAUCCUAACAAGCUCCUACUACCCCAAAAGUAGACUAGGGUACUGUAGAAAAAAUAUACUCUACAGUCACGUCACCUUUCUAUACUAUCCCACAACAAGGUAUCACUUGUUUUCUAUAUAUUAUCUCUUAUAGUGGCACUUUAGUUAUUUGGACUAUGCCACAAUCCCAUAUAACAAUAUCUUAGACGAUAUAGCCAAUGGAAAUACUCAUAAGCUAAAAGGCUUCCUUUGUUGCUAUAGAAAUAACAAAAACCACUUAGAGUGUACACAUUCCCUAAGGUAGACUUGCGAGAGUCCUCAUUAGACUGAAAGUCCAAUUUCUCGAUACAAGGACUCACAAACAUAUCAUUCUUCAUUCUCUAAGGAUACUAGAGUAUAUGUUUGAAAUUCGCUCAAAGCUCUAAUCAAGAAAUGAACUAAUAUUCACUCAUUAUUCCUACAACAAAGCAAAUAUCUGGUUUAGCACAUAGCAUUGUAUGCUUAAGGCUAUCCAUUGUAGAGGCAUUGGAUACCUCCUUAAUGUGAUCUUUCUCCACAAAUGUCUGAUUACUACUCAAAAAGUGCUAUUUGAUAGCUUGUAAUUAACUCUUUUAAACACUUUUGAGUAGUAGUUAUUGCCUUUUAACCCAAUUAACAUGUUAAGGACCCUUGCAAUCAAUUCUAAUCAAAUUGUGUUAAGUUUUGGUCUUUUGAUAGCUUUUUGAUCACCAAAGCAAUCCAAGAUUGAGGAGAGUUAUUUGGAAUCCACGACAAAGCAAUGGAAAGCUCAAAUUCAUGAAGAACAAGAUUUGGAGCUCCAUAGCUCUUUGCCAAAGUCGUUCAAAGUAUGCAAGGAAAGAACAAAGGAGAGAGGAAAAACAGAGUGAAGAAAACAGAGGACAAUAGCUGCAGUCUUCUUUCGCACUUUUAGAGCACUUCCCGAAGUCCAUUUUCUACAUUCUAUAUACCAUUUAAAAUCUUAGGAAGUCAAGAAUCCAAUGCUUUAAACGGUGAGCAAUUCGGAGUUGAAACGAAGGAGUUACAGCCAUUGCAAGUAGAUCACUCCAAGUUGAAGGAAGAAUUUUGCACAACGCUGCGAAAUCACCCUUUUGUUGCGAAAUGAUUUCGCAGCCUUUUUGUUUAGUGUUGUGGAUUCCCUCCUGAAGUUGCCCGAUAUAUGCCGCAAGUUGGAAGCUGAGCACCUCAAGAUGAAAGCCAACUUCGCAGCCCUGCGAGAAUAACCUUUUGCUGCGAAGUGAUUUCGCAGCCCUUUUUGUGCAUCUGUGAAAUCUCGCAGACCUCGUUUUCACCUACGAAAUGGUCCUUAGUGCUUCCCAAUAUUUGUGCACCGACUCUUUUAGAUCUUUUCUUCAGAUAUUUUUGUAUAAAUUUCCAUUCUCUCCUAGUAAGCCACCAAUUAUGGGAUUCCUUAGUUAUUAAGUUGGGAAAAGGGGUGAAUAACUUGAGAUAUUUUGUUUUGUAAUUUUCUUUAUAUAUAGCUCUCGGGAGCUUGUUCUCAGGGCAUCAUAUCGAUCAAUAUAUAGAUAUAUCAUAUAUAGAAUCAACGAACAGAGCACUUGCUCUGUUUUUCAUAUAUAUUCUUGUUUUCUCGUUAGUUUUCUUUCUAGCCAACCAAACUCUGAGGAUUUUUCCUCAGAGGAUGAGAGGCUAAGCUUUUUGUCUCUUGGAGUAAGGAAAACCGGCUAAGUUUCCACAUGCAUAAAUUGGAAGUUUUGUUGUUUUAGUUUUUAAUGAAGAGAAAGUGUGACCCGUUAAUGGUUUUUAUAUUUUUAGUUAACUUAAAACGCCUUUAAAUCACCUGGGCCAACACUUGGGAAGGCAAGUGAUCUCUGUCCAUGGAGAUGCACUAGUUUACCCCUUGCGAGCCUUUGGGAGGUGACUUGAAGGUAGGAUUUUCUAGAAUAGGCAACACUUGGUAAGCUUUUGGACUCCAAGGAGACAUCUAUUAGUUAUCUCUUGCGAGCUUUUGACGGGUAAUCCAAGGUUAAAGAUCACCUUGAAUGGCAAGUGCUAGGUGAGAGGUAUGAGCCAUUGCAAGGUGCAUCAGUGAGAGGGAUUUAGUGUUUGAACCCAUUAAUGGGAAGCAUCUGUACAACACCGGUUAGAGAAUUAACUAUAUGUUAAUUCUCUAAUGCGAGGAAAAGAAACAAGUGACCGAAACUCUCUUUUUUGUAUGAGGAACCUGAGCCUAGUGAUCUGAACUCCAAAAAACAUUUUUCUUUGUAAGUAAAAUCAGUUACUAUUUUUGGUUAGUUUAAAACCAAACCUUUUUCAUUCAAACAUCUUUAUGUUUUCUUUUAAAGCUAACCUUGAAAUGAAAAGGCACCAAUUCAACUUUGAAUUAAUAUCAUUUGUGAAGUGAAAACCCAUCCCAGUGAACGAUCCUAGNNNNNNNNNNNNNNNNNNNNNNNNNNNNNNNNNNNNNNNNNNNNNNNNNNNNNNNNNNNNNNNNNNNNNNNNNNNNNNNNNNNNNNNNNNNNNNNNNNNNUAAUGGGAAGCAUCUGUACAACACCGGUUAGAGAAUUAACUAUAUGUUAAUUCUCUAAUGCGAGGAAAAGAAACAAGUGACCGAAACUCUCUUUUUUGUAUGAGGAACCUGAGCCUAGUGAUCUGAACUCCAAAAAACAUUUUUCUUUGUAAGUAAAAUCAGUUACUAUUUUUGGUUAGUUUAAAACCAAACCUUUUUCAUUCAAACAUCUUUAUGUUUUCUUUUAAAGCUAACCUUGAAAUGAAAAGGCACCAAUUCAACUUUGAAUUAAUAUCAUUUGUGAAGUGAAAACCCAUCCCAGUGAACGAUCCUAGAGCCACUAUGCUAUAGUAGCUUUGUCUUUGCUACCCUAGUAAAUGGUGUAAUAGGUUAUAAAUUUUGUUGAUUACUCCCUCAAUCAAGGAGCACCAGCUGGACACGAAUCAGCUGAGACACCAAUUGGGCAUGAAUCAAUGUCCAAGGACAUUGAUCCUAAGAAAGAUAACUCCAAAUCCAAAGAGUAACAAACCUUUCUUGGAGUUUUACAUCAUAUACUUGAACAAAUGCUGAUUAAUGUAGAUGACAUGGCAUAAUUUUUCCUAUUCCUGCAAUGCUAAAAGAUCUUAACCUUAAGAAUAUAUUGCGCAUUCCUCUAAAUUUUUUUCUAGAACUAAGUAAACAACUAGAUCUUGACAGAUGACAAUAUCUUUACAUCAUAUCCAAUGAGUAGAUUAUCAUCCACCUACAAGAUCUUAGAGCAUUACUACACUCCCAUAUGCUUUCAUGUACACACAAGGCCUAUUGCUAUGAAAAUGUUUGGUUGCUAUAUCUCAUAAAUCAAACACACUGCAAUAGAUAAGAGUAAUCUACUAGAUUUGAGUAUGAUCACUAUUGAAAAGGUUUUCCAUAGUUGAAACAAAGUUUCAAACUAUAACCUUUAACUAUAGUCUUAGCCAUAUAAAACUCAAGCUUUCCAUCUACUCCUGUGUUUCUCUUAUAGACCAACUUACACCUAUGAGUUUUAUCUCUUUAGGUGUCCUACAGGAACCCAAACUAUGUUAGAAUACAAAGAUUCUAACUACCUUUUCCUAGCUCAUUACCUUAAGUGAGUAUAAACAUUGUUGAAUGCUUCAUCAUAAUCUAUGAUAUAUAAACUUCCAUUACGAUGAGGCAUUGGUGUACUAGAAAUCAUAGGAAUGGUAUGCCUUUAACCCUCUAGAUCCACAAUAUCCUAUGCAAUAUGGGACUAUUUUCUAAUUUCUCCUCCAAUCUAUAUCAUUUUUUGCCUUAUUCCUUAUCAUACAGUUUUAAAUUUUUUUUUGACAUUUGUGCUAACAAAUAUCUUUUAAUGAUCCUAACUAUAAAGGUAGUAACCCAAAAAUGCUCUUAUAUAUCCUAUAAAUUGACAUACCUCUUAAGAAAAAGGGUAACCACCUUUUUAAAAAAUAGUAGGUAAAAUAUACUUGAUACAUACCUUCAAUCUUUUGUUUGUUUUACAUUUUGGUCUCUUAUAUUUGAAAUCCAUCAUUUUACCUAUUCAAACUUAUUAGAAAUCAACACUUCCAUAUCAUUUGCAAACCCUUUAUAAAUUAUAAAAAUGAUCUUUUUUUUUUCUAUAUUCUUGUUUGAACAUUGGUUUGAAUUUAGGUAAAACCAAUUUUGAAUUCAUAGCCUUGGGUAGUAUUUCCCAAACAUCUUUAUUUUAUUAUUUAUUAUCUAAUCCUUCAUGUCUUGUGGAAGCACGUUACAAGUUAUCUAUGCUAUCCAAGUACACCCCCUAUCACCUACCUUCUAAAUUAUGUGAAUAUGCUUAUCACUGUGAACCGUGCCUAUGUUUGGUAGUGCAUGGGUGUCUUGAUAUAUUGUUUCAUUGUUCAAUUAUUUAUGAUAAAGCGCAUGCUGGGUGAUAUUCUAUUUGAACUAACUUUAAUGUCUUUUGAUAGUGCUUAAAAAGCAGUCCAGGUAUGCACCCUAAAUCUUCUUUAUGAUUUGUGAUUGGUUCUUUUGUUUAGCAUGAUAUUUGUUUAAAUCACCUUAGUCUACCUAGGCACCCUCAAUCAACCAAUUAAUUGUCCCAAUUCUCUCAACUUAGCUAGUAAAGACCUCUUUAAGGCUUAGAGGGGUGCUACCUCUUAGAGGUAACUUCCCAAUAGGUAACCUGAUCCCCGAACCUAGACUCGGGUUUUUCAAAGACACAUUUUUCCAAAAACUAUAGUCACUUCUUUAGGGUUUUCUUUCUUAUUUUAUUUUUCCUUUUAAAAUAAAAUAAAAUAAGUGGUGACUCCAACUUUUCCAAAUUUUUCUUUUUUACCAAUAAAAGCGAAUAUCAUCGAUUGAGUGGGAGCGCAUGUGAAAAAUGCAAGACCACACUAUGGCUUUUGUAGUACUCCGGGUAUUGUUCUUAAGGACUAGCUUAUGGAAAUAGUCAAUACUAGAAUAAAUGAAUUGCUUUCGUUUAAAUCCUAAAGUGAAAAACACUAUGAGAAUAAUGUGAAACUAAGUAAAAGAAAAAUAAAUUAAUAACAAAAAUGGAUGUUGAUAUUAAAUUUGAUUGAUUCAAGUUUGGGGCUUUCCACAAUCCAACCUAGGGUAUAGAAAUUAGAGAAAACAAGGGUCUUUUAAGUAAUAUGAUCUUAGGGUUUUGGGAUCCUUGGCUCCUCAUGAUCAAGUUGAGUUCUAUAACAUAAAAUUGCAUCCGAAACCUAAUUUUUCCUUUUUAAAAUAAAAUUCCUAAAACCAUCAAAUGAAUGAGAUUGAUUACUAGUUUAAAAUUUGGACUUUUAACCCUUCCUACUCCUUAUAGUUUUGUUUUGGGGCAAAUAAUGAUAGAGAAAACGAGGAUAACUAAUGAUCAAGAAUUACCAAAAAUCACUAGUAUCGGGUAAUAACCUACCAUAUCAUUCCCUAAACUAACUCACAAGGAUAGGAUAAAAAAAUGAUAAAUUGUCACCCAACCAAUAAUUAAUCUCAUUGAUAUAAUAAUUUACCCAUUGUCCCUAUAGGUUUCCUAACCCUUAGGUUUUCAUGCUUUAAGCCCCAAGUUAGCUCUUAACCUCUCAUGGGGUUAUUGUCACAUUCACAAUCCAUAAUAGGGUAAAAAUCCAUAAUUUGAAUCAAAAGAACCUAAAAUAAUAUAUUUAAUAAAGAAGAAAAAGAAAACAAACCAAAGUUCUCAUCUUCUUCCACCUUCAAUGUCAAACUCUCUAGAAAAAAAAAAAAAAAAUCCAAGGUCCCUAAAACCUAGAACUAAGAGAGUUUAGAUAAUAUCAUCAAUUACCUAACAUGUGCCACACUCUCAUUGGCCACUUAUUACAAAAAUAAUUACCUAAAAAUGAUUAAAAAUUAAUAAAAUGGUGAUUUCUAGCAGUGUGUGGGGUCCAUUUAGGGGUGAUGGAGUGUCUUAGAUGCAAUUUCCAAGGUAGAGGAGGUGAAACAUCAAAGUGGCAGUGGGUGAAUUUGAAAUUGGUGUCAUUUUGAUGUGGAUUUUGAAUUCAUAAGUUGAAUUUCGAAAUCAUUUCGAAAUGACCCUUUAGAUUUGUGUAGUCGUCUUCAAAUAACCAUAACUUCUUCAUUUCAGCUUCAAUUUGCACACUGUUUGAAGUGUUGGACUCCUGACCUCCCAAGCUUCAAAAAAAUAUAUUGUAUGCAUAAAAUGGGCUCCAGAAAAUGCUCCAAAUUUAUCCUCAAAGUCAGAGUAUAUAUUACCAUCAGAUUUUUGAGUUCUAGAUUUCCAUGUAGCUGAAUCUUGCUUCAUGCCUCAAUUCCUAUGUUUUCUUGCCUUCUUUCUUACUCCAUUAUGAUCAUUUCUCAUAUUCCAAACUCAUGAUAUCCUCGUCUUGCCUUUCCUCAUGGUCCAUGAGUCAUGACUCACCUAUUUCUUCAUUUAACCCUUUCUUGAUCUUUCAAAAUCUAAAGUGAUUCAACUUGCACCAUUUUCUUCCCUUGAACCUGAGAUAAGUCUCCAAAGUACAAAUAAAACUCCUGGCUAGGUCCUUAGCAUUAAUUUAGGUCAAGUUGGGUGAUUUGAAUGUUCUUUGGUGCACAAAUCAUAUCAAAUAUGUGUCAUUAGAGCACAUAUUUUGGCUCCAAUCAUCCCCCUCAACUAAACUUUGCUAGUCCCUAGCAAAUGAAAAGAGUAAAGAAAAAAAUUAAAAAUAUGUAAUGAGAUUCAUGAAACCAUAUUGACUCAACAUAACAUAUUUCACACACAAGAUACCCAAGUAGUCAAAUUUCUUAGAAUUGAGCAAAAUGAAACAAGAUAUGCAAUUUUUUAGUUUUCUCACCUUAUCUUCGUAUACAUAAAUGUGCAUCCACGUUUAGCAUUCCCCUUAGUGUCUCUUGAUUUUCCCCUGAUUAGUUUUUUCCACCUAAACCUCAUGUGCUUAAUUUUGGUUUCCUCUCACAGUAUUUUUCUUUAGACUUUUCUUAAACUCAAACUUCAUCAUUCUUUAAGUUAAAGAGGGGGGGAAAUUUAUUUUGAUUUUUCUUUCUUAGUUUAGGAAAUCUCCUUCUAUAUGGCUUAAUAGGGAUCCACCGGCAACUCCUAAGUUUUCACCCAUGGUACCAGGUAUUGGGAACCUUUAUAGGCUACUUACUCCUCAGGUAUUACCCUAGCUCUAGAUAGAACAAGGUCGAAUUUCCUAAACAUUUAUUUAUUUUUAUUUUUCAAAACUGAGUUUAACUUAUGUUACAAGCAAGAUACUGAUGACUCUUAACCAGUCGGUUUCGGGCACCAGGGCUUGAAGACACAAGGCCAUUACCCCCUCAAAUAAUUUCUCAAGCUUAAAUCAAUCAUUUUCAAUUUUCUUUUCAUCAAUUUGUUUUUUUUUUUUUCAUUUCCUCCUUUUAUUAGUUAAGAACAACUCCUUUUAAUCUAAAGAAAUUAUCUUAAUCAAGAUACCAUAAAGGAAUAUGUGCUUUGUGUGUGCUUUGAGUCUUAAAUAGAAAAUAACCAUAAAAAUAAAAUAAAAUAAAAUUUUGAAGGUAUUCCAAGGAUUCAACCUAAUUAUUUUUGUACUUAAAGGUAUAUAAAGAUAAGGUAAGUGAACUAAUAUUCUUGCUCUAACUGUAUUUUUUCUCAAAUUCUAAAGAAAUAAUACUACUUAAAGCAUUCUCAUGCAAAAUAAACCAUGAGUUACCAAGGCAAAUCAAGAAUCUCAUUAACUAACCAAAGAUAACAUGCAAACUUUUGAAAAAAAAAUUAGGGCUAAUAGACCUUCCCCCCUCAACCUAAAUUACACAUUGUCCCCAAUGUGUAGGAUAUUGGGUCAAAAGAAAGGAAAAAUGGAGAUGUUAUCUCAAGAUCAUCGAGUGAGAAGUUUGUUAUGAGGACUUCAUAUAAACUAGUCUUGCACAAAAGCAACAAGAUUAGUGGCAAAAGUAUGCAUAGAGAAAAAUAUAAAUGGUGAUCUAAAAGAGAGUAUAAGAGUAUCAGUAUGCUCCAAAAAUACCAUAGUGUAUACAAUUAUAUCGAAUAAGGUAUAUAUAGAAAUGAACAUCAAGCACCAAUGAUAGGAUCAACAACUCCAUCUAUCCCCUCCAACACAUGGGUGGCUACCUAGUCAAUAUCCUCCAAUAUAGGUGUAGUAGCUAAUUAGUGAUCUCCACGAUAGGUGUAACGGCCUCGCCAACAACCUGUACCAUAGGGGGGUCAUCCUUAAUAAUGAUGUCCACACUAGUGUCAGUAGUAUGAAUGAAGAUCUCACCAUCGACCUAUCCUGCAGAAUCUGGAAUAUCAAUAGUUGAGGUAAAAAUCUUAGUUGCGGCAUCACUUGAUGUUUGUAAAAUAGGCAUGGUCUCAUGGGCUACUGUCGGUGCUCUAGUGUUAGAGCCAGAAUCAAUCACCUCUGUAGUGUUGCCAUCAACCUCUAAGUUGGUAUCAAUUGGUGUAAUAAAAUCUCCCCUCUGUCUAGAUGGAAUAAUCAAAGAAGUGACCUAUUGUACACAAAAAGUGAGGUCAUCCAUCUAAGUCUCCAUCUUACUUAAGCGAGCAUCAAUGCGAGAGUCCAUGGACACAAAUAACUUUUGAAGUGUGUCUAGACGAGCCAUGAUUGAUAAGGUACUCAGGGUAGCAUCAACAACCUGAGGCAGUGAAGGUUUAAGAAGAUCAAAGGUUGGUAAUGCUAGUGUAGAAAUAGGAAUAUAUAGCAGGCUCUAAGACACAUGAAAGAGGUGGUGGAAGAGGAAUAGGAAGCACUGGUAAGCUCGUGUCAAAAGUAGGAGUAGGUGGAAGCGGGCUCUCUAUAGUAGAUGGAAGUGGAACAACAUGCAAAGCUCUCUUUCUCUUAGCGCCAUAGGUAAUCAACUAUGACCCUGAAUGAAUUGUUUGACCCACUGAUUGAUAACAUAAGUGUGAGAAGUCAUGCGAUGAUCAGACUUAGGUAACUGGCAUCCAUGACGGAGCAAGUAGUAUGAGAGCAACUGAGGCAAAGGAAUAAGAUAACUUUGAGCUAAAGAUAAUUGUUUCUCCUUAACCUUUUGAAAAAAAUAAAAGAUGGUAUCCAUGAUGAGUUGAGGUGGACUCCACCACUUGCCUGUGUACAUGUGAUAUAACCCCUAUAAGACUAAACCAGAACACUUUAUAGAGUGUCCAAAUGGAAAAUGUUGGUCUUAAUGACCUGAUCCACAAACCAUAAGAUCUAUGGCAUCUCAAGGUGAGUGAUGGCUGAACGAUAACAAGUAUCCCGAGGUGCUAAUAUAUGUGCAAUCCUCGAAAAAGCUGGUUGUGAUUGAGGUGAAAAUUGGGCUUCAAGAGGAGCAGAUGAUGGUAAACCAAAGGUUGCAACAAUGGUCUCAGUGGAAAUAAUAUCAAUUCAUCUAUUGAUAGAAAUAUGGAGCUCUCGGUAUCUCCCUCUCCAAUCCUCGAGAGUAGAGAAGAACUCUCUUACACUAGCGACAUAAAAAUAUGGCGGAGGAUCCAUCAAUAAGAGAAAAUAAUAUCGGUCAAGGAGAUGCAUGGACUAUGUAGUGGGCUAGUAAGUACUAAAUGCCUUUAUUUCAUAAGAGAACUCUUGAUCAAACUUCAGUUAAGAUAGGUCCACCCUAGGGGCAUCAUCACAAACUAUUAGAGAUGGAGGACGUGUUGGGCUCAGAGUAGGAGGAGCUGCCCAUGGAUGUGGAGGAGUGGUAGUAAGCUUGGUGGUCUUAAGAGUGGUUGAGUGAUCAAAAUGAGCCUUUGUCUUGGCUUUGACAUGCUUGGCUUGACGAGUGACAUGCCUCUCAGUAGGCUCAAUAAUCAUUCCACCACUUCGACUUUGGACAAGAGGUCGGGCAUGUUUUUGCCUUGGAGAAUGCUUAGUCUCAUUGUCACUUUGAAUAACAACUUUCCUUUUAUAUUAAGCCAUCUGAAAUAAAUGUCAAAAAAUAAACUAAACUUAAAAAAGGGAAAUAAAUAAAUAGAAAUAAAUACAAAAACUCAUAAGGGUUAAGAAAACAAUCUAAAAAAAAAAAUUGGAUGCUCAUGAAAUUUAUGGAUUCAUAUGAAACGGUGGUAGACCAUUCCUAAAAUGCGGGAGAACAUUCAAGGUGUCCAACAAUGAUGAAAACAUGAGUCUUUGAAGCCUUAGAUAUAAUCCAAACAAUACCUAAGUUCAAAUAUCAUGUGACAAGGAAAUCAAAGUGAUUGGUUAGCUUAGGAGAAUGUGUAGAACAAAUAGAAAAAUCUACUAGAGAGUUUAAAAUGUUCUAGAGCAUAUAAAACAUAAAUUAGGCAACAAUUAUGCAAAACUCAUGGAAAAAUAAGAACUUUGCUCUCAAAGUAUUCUAAGAUGUUCAACAAGCCCUAAGAAUCAUGUAGAAAAAAUUUCAAAAUUUUUCUCCAAGUAUAAACCAAAAAUUCUAACACCUUGAAUUUCCAAGCAAAACAAAUGAACGUUGUGUAAUCAAAAUCAAUCUUGUUGAGUUACGUUCAAAUUUUCGGGGGUCGAGCUCCCCGCUAAGCUUGUGGGGGUCGGGGGGCAGCACCCUCUAGAAUUGUUUUUUCAUUAUAUUUAUUAUUUUUUUUUAUCUACCCAACAGAAACAAUAGAAACCCUAAACAAUGUUAUUGAGAGUUUGGUCACACUGCAUUUUAUAUGGAGCAACACCACACAAUGAAACCAUAAAGAUCAAGGAAAAUCCAUGAAAAAUAAACAAGAAAUGAGUAUGAGUGUAAUGCGUACCUGGAAUGUGACAAACCCAUAAUGAACCCUUAAAUCACCUUCAAUGGAAGCUAGGACAAUGAACAAGGGAAGAAUAAACAAGGGGAAGAGGAGAUAAAGUGGUCUAGAAGUGGAAAUGGCCUUUUGUAAAGGAGUUUGGUUGAUUUCGGAGUGAACUCGAAAUAGAAAUUAAGUAUUUUGAAUUGGAACUUUGGUUAAGAAAAGUCAUUUUGAAAUUUAACUAUUGAAUUCAAAAAUAACCUUAUUUUGAAUUCGUUAAUUAAUGGUAAAAAAAUGCCCAUUUUAAAAUGUAACCAUUGGAUUCGAACACUAUCCUAUUUCCAAAUGGCUCACUAUAUACAAAAACAUUUCAAACACCUCAUUUCGAAAUGAAAAAAAAAAAAUCAUUUCUAAAUUGGGCAAAUUUCGAAUUCACCUUCUGAACUUAAAAAAUCUCAAUUCUAAAGCAAAAGUUUCAAUUUUGAAAAGCCCACCAUUUCAAAUUUGCUAAAUGUAGCCUCAAUACAGUGUAAAAAACCUGUUUCAAAAUUCCACUAAUGAUUUCGAAAAUAGCUUCAUUUCAAAAUGGCUCACUGUUGAUUCCAACUUCUAUUUCGAAAUAGCAAUCUUUUUUAUUUCAAAUUUGACGUCAUUUCGAAAUAACCCACUAUGGGUGUUGAAGUCCAUCUUAAAGCAUCAAAAUUGCUCAUUUCGAAAUUCAAAAUUCAUUGUAUUUCAAACUUGUUUUUUGUGAGUUCAAAACACCUAUUUCAACAUUUACUAGUGAUUUCAAAAUCAAUCUCAAUUCAAAUUCACUUUCUAUAUAUUUAAAAUUGCAAUUCCAAGACAAAAAAUUUGAAUUCGAAAGGAUCAUAAUAUUGAAAUCACCCAUUACUGGUCUUCAAAAGUGUCAUCUCCAUUUGAGAUUUCAAAUUCAAAAAUAAAGGAAUUUUGAAUUCAUCCACUAUACCUUUAGCCCUUUAUCAUAAAAAUUUAGGAUUUCUUUCCCAAGGGCUACUCAGUUUUGUAUUUCAUCCUUUGUUUUCAAAGUUCACCAAUGAUCCUCACAAGUAAAUUUUUGGGAGGCCUAUGGUCUUAAAUAUAGAUCAACGUACUUGUAGGAGCUUUGCCACCUUGAACACUUAUGAGGCUUACCUUUUCACUACAUUGAAGUUCACAUUUACCUAUAUCACUUGGAUGUUUGCAAGCUAAGUUGCUACAACUCAUAAACUCAUUAGUAAGUUAAAGACAACUUAAAAAAAUACUAACCAUAUUUCUAAUGACUAAUUGAAAAUGAAAAACUAAACAAAGGAAAAUAAAUAAAAUAAAACAAAAUAAAAGAGAAAUUAAAUAAAUAAAAGUUUUACCUAAAUUUAAUUUUUACCUACUAGAUUUUCAGAAAAUACUUCAACCCUUUUGAACAUUCCCAUAAAGAAAAUGGAGAUUCUCCUCUAAUGUCUCAAAUCUUUCAAUGAAAUGCUUUAAGCGCUGACCACUAACUUUGAAUUCAUUACCAUUCCUCAGAUUUCGAAUGGUCACGAUGCCAUAAGGGAAGACUUCCUUUACCACAUAAGGGCCAUUCCACCUUGACCUAAGCUUUCUUGGAAAAAUGUGACGCUUAGAGUCGUACAACAACACCUUUUCAUCUUGCUUUAACUUCAUUCAUAAAAUAAGUUUGUCAUGGUAGAAUUUGUGUGUUUCCCUUGCAUUACGUAAGCAUUCAUAAUUCUAAUUUUGAUAUGCCUCAAGUUCAUUCAAAUCAUAUUUCCUUUUAGCUCCAGUUUGAUCCAAAUCAAAGUUCAUUUUUUUAUAGCCCAAUAUGCACGAAGUUUGAGCUCUAUAGGCAAAUGACAUGAUUUACCAUAAACAGUCUGAUACGGUGACAUGCCAAAGAUAGUCUUAUAGGUUGUCCUAUAUGCCCGAAGUGCAUCACUCAACUUGGUAGACCAAUCUUUUCUUGUAGUAUUGACUACUUUGGUAAGGAUUCUCUUAAUCUUUCGAUUUGCUAGCUCAGCUUGCCCAUUUGUUUGAGGGUGAUAUGGGUGGACACUUUAUGCCUCACUCCGUAUUUCUGAAAAAGAGUGGAAAAAGGGCUUGUUACAAAAGUGUGAACCUCCAUCACUAAUGAUUGCUCUCAGAAUGUCAAACCUAGAGAAAAUAUUCUCCUUUAAAAAUUUGAGCACCACUUUGUGAUCAUUGCUCUUGCAUGCCACUGCUUUUACCCAUUUAGAAACAUAAUCCACUCCCACCAAAAUAUAGAGAUUACCAAAAGAAUGAGGGAAUGGUCCCAUAAAGUCAAGGCCCCAACAAUCAAAGACCUCAACAACACAAAUAUAAUUUUUUGGCAUUUGAUACUUUGUGUUGAUUUUCUCCAGUUGUUGACAUUGUGGACAACUUCUGCAGUGAGUGUUACAAUCCUUGAACAUAGUUUUCCUAUAGAAUCCACUCUGUAGAAUUUUUUCCUAAGUCUUCCGUAGACCAAAAUGACCUUCACAAGCUCUCUCAUGGCACAUUCGCAACAUGUUUUGUUGUCCAUCCUCUGGAACACAUCUUUGAAUAAUUUGAUUUGGACAAAACUUAUACAAAUAUGGAUCAUCCCAAGCAUAGUGUUUUGCUCACCAACAAUCAAAGACCUCAACAACACAAAUAUAAUUUUUUGGCAUUUGAUACUUUGUGUUGAUUUUCUCCAGUUGUUGACAUUGUGGACAACUUCUGCAGUGAGUGUUACAAUCCUUGAACAUAUUUGGCCUAUAGAAUCCACUCUGUAGAAUUUUUUCCUAAGUAUUUUGUAGAGCAAAAUGACCUCCUGAUUCGCUUGUAACUCCAAAUGGGUCAUUUAAUCAAAAACAUUUAUAAAACCUAUGACCUCAUACUAAUGUAGUAAAGCUACUAUAGUAUAGUGGCUCUAGGGUCGAACUCUGGGAUGGGUUUUCAUUCUACCAGUGAUGUAUUCAAAAUUAGAAAUUGUAUUUAAUGAUUUCCUUUAUCAAAAACUUAAAGUUUAAAAGAAAAUAAAAUUUGAUUUGAAAGUGUUUAAAACUAAACUAACAUAAACUAAUUAAAAAUGGAAGAAAGAAAGUCUCCCGGAGCUAAGGGUUGCUAGGAUCAAGUUCAGAAUAGAAAGUGGAAAAUUCCGGAUUUUUCUCCUCGCAUUGGGGAUUUAACCUAUAGUUAUUUCCCGAACCGGUAUAGGUUUGACAAUGAAGAUUUAAUCCAUAAAAGAUCAAUAGAAAUGGUAGUCAAGGUCCAUUAAUGGCUUAAGACACUAUGGGUCUUCACCUUGAAUCACUUUCCAAUGACUCGUACAUGAUAACUAAUGGACUAAUAUGGAUCUAGCAAUAAGCAUCCAUAAAGACCUGAAGCUUACCAUGUAUUGAUCAUUCAAAGUGAUUCUAAGGGGUUUAAAGUAAAACUUUGGAUUUAGAAGCCGUUUAUGAAUUCCAACUACCUGAAUUUAAUGCAUGGAAGCUUUCCACCUUUUCAUCUGGACUUUUCACCUAGCUUCCUUUACUCCAAGAAACCGAAAGUUUAGCCUCUCAUCCUCCGGGCAAACAUCCUUAGAGGUUGUUUGGCUUCCAAGAAAAGGAAAAUAAUAAAGAGCAAAGAGAACGAGAGAGCUCUGUAAAAUUCUCAGUGUAAAAACGUAAUACGUAUUCCAUAUAUUCCAAGAGAUGAUUUCCACCCCUUAUAAAGUCUUUACAAAAGCUAAAGCUUAUGAUUGGUUAAUUACAAGGAUAAUAAAGGAAAUUACAUCACAAAAUACAAAGGAAAAUAUCUAAAGUGGAGUCGGCAAAGGGCAGAGCAAAAUUCGCAACACGCAUAGGUUAUGCGAACCAUAUGCGAAUGUUAUGCGAAUUUCGCAUAACCUCUUGUGGAAUGCGAAAUUUUCGCAUAUGCUAGAGCAGUUGGCUUCCGAAGGCCAUAUCUUCCUCAUUUCAGCUCCAAAUCGUACAUGGUUUGAAGUGUUGGAUUCUUGACUUCCAGAGCUUUGAAAUGGUAUAUAGCAUGUAAAAAAUGGACUUCGGGAAUUGCUCCAAAAGUGUGAAAGAAGACUGCAGCUGCUACAUCUUGAUUUUUUUUCACUUUGCUUCUCUUUGCUUCUCUCCUUUGCUUGACUUGUCUUAAUGAUCCAAAAAGCUGUCAAAACAUUAAAACUAGCCACAAAUAUGAUUAGAAGACAUUGCUAGGUCCUUAACAUGCCAAUUGGACUAAAGAUGGAGAACUACUACACAAAAGUGCUUAAAACAUAAUGCAUUAAAGGUGUAAAAUAGCACUUUUUGGGUAGUAAUCACCUCCACAAGCUCUCUCAUGGCACAUUCGCAACAUGUUUUGUUGUCCAUCCUAUGGAACACAUCUCCGAAUAAUUUGAUUUGGACAAAACUUAUACAAAUAUGGAUCAUCCCAAGCAUAGUGUUUUGCUCAAGAAAGAAAAUACUUUUCAUCUCCAUGUUCCAUUCUGAGGGAAGCUCUCUAGUUGCCAAGUAGUUGACUAUAUUUGCAAACCAAGGAAACUUCUCCACUGCACAAAGUGCAUCAUCAAGAAACUCAUCAUUAAUCUAUGCUUCGUCAAAAAGUGACUCUACUUUAACUCAAGAGAGAUGAUCAGCAACCACAUUCUUUACCCCUUGCUUAUCCUUGAUUUGCAUGUUAAAUUCUUGAAGAAGAAGGAUCCAUAUGACAAGUCUUGUUUUGACAUCCUUUUUGUUGAGUACAUAUUUCAAGGCCGAAUAAUUAGUAAAAAUUACUAUUGAAGUUCCCAAAAGGUAGUUCCUGAAUUUAUCAAGUGCGAACACCACUGCAAGGAGCUCCUUUUUAGUAGUUGUGUAGUUCUUCUGAGCAUCAUUGAGGGUCUUACUAGCAUAGUACACCCUAUAUGGUUUUCCAUCCUCCCUUUGACCUAGUACGACUCUCACUGCAUAGUGACUGGCAUCACACAUCAACUCAAAUGGAAGAGACCAAUUGGGAGGUCUCACAAUUGCGGUAGUAGUGAGAAGUGACUUUAGUCUCUCAAAAGUUUCUUGACAUGCUUUAGUCCAUAUAAAUUCUGCAUCCUUAAGUAACAAAGCAUAAAGAGGUUGAGAGAUUUUUUAGAAGUCCUAUAUGAACCUUCUAUAAAAAUCUGCAUGCCCCAAAAAUAGUAUAAUUCACAUGUUUAUUUUAUUUUAAAAAUUAAUUGGAUAAUUAGUUUUGGUAUAAUUUUUGUUAAUUUUAUUUUAAAGAUUCUUUGUAUGAUUAAUUUGUAUAAUUUUUGUUAGUUUAAUUUUAAAAAUUCAUUAGAUGGUUAAUUUGUAUAAUUCAUAUGUUAGUUUUAUUUUAAAAAUUAAUUAGAUGAUUAGUUCAAGCAUAAUUUUUGUUAAUUUUAUUUAAAAAAUUCUUUGUAUGAUUAAUUUCUAUAAUUUUUCUUAGUUUUAUUUUAAUGAGAUUGAUUACCAGUUUAAGAUUUGGCUUUUUAAUCCUUCCUACUCCUUAUAGCUUUGUUUUGGGGCAAAUAAAGAUAAGGAAGACGAGGAUAACUAAUGAUCAAGAAUUACCAAGAAUCACUAGUAUCGGGUAAUAACCUACUGUAUCAUUCCCUAAACUAACUCACAAUGAUAGGAUUAAAAAAAAUGAUAAAUUGUCACCCAACCAAUAAUUAAUCUCAUUGUUAUAAUAAUUUACCCAUUGUCCCUAUAGGUUUCCUAGCCCUUAGGUUUUCAUGCUUUAAGCCCCAAGUUGGCUCUUAACCUCUCAUGGGGGUGAUGUCACAUUCACAAUCCAUAAUAUGGUAAAAAUCCAUAAUUUGAAUCAAAAUAACCUAAAACAACAUAUUUAAUAAAGAAGAGAAAGAAAACAAACCAAAGUUCUUAUCUUCUUCCACCUUCAAUGUCAAACUCCCUAGAAAAAAAAUCCAAGAUUCCUAAGACCUAGAACUAAGAGAGUUUAUAUAAGAUCAUCAAUUACCUAACAUGUGGCACACUCUCAUUGGCCACUUAUUACAAAAAUAAUUACCUAAAAGUGAUUAAAAAAAUUAAAUGGGGAUUUCUAGUCGUGUAGGGUCCACUUAGGGAGGAUGGAAUGCCCUAUAUGCAAUUCCCAAGGUAGAGGAGGCAAAACAUCAAAGUGGCAAUGGGUGCAUUCGAAAUUGGAGUCAUUUUGAUGUGGAUUUCGAAUUCAUAAGUUGAAUUUUGAAAUUAUUUCGAAAUGACCCUUAAGCUUUGUGUAGUUGUUUUCAAAUGGCCAUAACUUCUUCAUUUCAGCUCCAAUUUGCACAUUGUUUGAAGCAUUGGAAUCAUAACCUCCCAAGCUUUGAAAUAAUAUAUCGUUUAAAUAUAAAAUGAACUCUGAGAAAUGCUCCAAAUUUGUCCGCAAAGUUGGAGUAUAUAUUACCAUUAGAUUUUUGAGUUUUAAAUUUCCAUGUAGCUGAAUCUUGCUUCAUGCCUAAUUUCUUAUGUUUUCUUUCCUUCUUUCUUACUCGAUAAUGGUCAUUUCUCAUAUUCCAAACUCAUGAUAUCCUUAUCUUGCCUUUCCUCAUGGUCCAUGAGUCCUGACUCACUUAUUUCCUCAUUGAACCCUUUAUUAAUCUUUCAAAAUCUAAAGUGAUUUAACUUGCACCCUUUUCUUCCCUUGAAUCUGAGAUAAGUCUCCAAAGUACAAAUUAAACUCAUGACUAGGGCCUUAGCAUCGACUUAGGUCAGGUUGGGUGAUUUGAAUGUCCUUUGGUGCAUAUAUCAUAUUGAAUAUGUGCCAUUAUAGCACAUAUUUUGGCUCCAAUCAAGCUUACCUGCCAAAUUCUGCAUGCCAAACAUUGAGUGAUAGAAUGGAGUGGGUUGUCCGAAGAUUCAUUUGAGGCUCUAUAGUAUAUUUGUGAGAGCACACAGAUUAGAUGAUAUGUAGUUGGUUGCUCUCUUCCCUAUGUCAUUUAGUUGAGUAGCAUAGAGGUGGCUGGCCUCAAUUAAGCAUUCGAGACUCUACACUUGGGAGGAUGUGGCCUAUGAGUUUUUGACACUGUUUGCCUUUAGUGCCGAUAUUGAUUUUUUUUUUUUUUUUACCAAACAAAGCGUCGAGAAUGUUACUUAACCAUCCCUAUAGUAAAAGCAAAAUUUGUUGCUUUUAGUGCUGAUAAUGAUGUUUCUAGGCGAGAGUUAGAGGCUACUAAGUAGAGGCCAAAUGAAUCUGUUUCUUCAUUUAUUAGUCAUUAGAGGGCUAAGGUGGUUGGUAUGAUAGAUUGACUAAAGGAGUAAGAUAGGAUUAACGUGCUUCUUUGGAAACUUCAGCCGAGGUUUGCCAAACAUCUUGUAGGUAUUCCAUUUGAAGACUUAUGAAGUUUGGUUCAAGUCGCUUUUAGUGUUGAGGAGAGUAUUGCUAGAGGGUUAUAGAAAAACAUUAUUCCUUCCUUAGAUAAUAAAGGAAAGAAGCCUGUAGAGGUUAGCACUAUCAGUUAUCAUCAUCAAGGUCAGUUUAUCAAUCAUACCAAAGGUCUCCUACAAUCAGAGCCCACUUUCCUCAUCCUUUGUGCCAAUAUUAGUCCACCUAUAUUCAACAACCUUUCAUUACUCGGACCAGUAUGCAACCACGACUUCCAUAUCCUAGAGGCAUUGGUUCUCAAUCAUUACUCAUGUUCCCACUCAUAUUUUUUACACACGUGAUCUUUAUCGAAGAGGGACAUAUUUGUAGACCCUCCAUUCUAUCUCCUUAAUAGAUGCCCUAUUAAGUGUUCUUUCAAUACUCCACAAUGGUUCCCUAGUGGCUCUUUGCUGCCCAUAUAGCCUACCUAUUUUAGCCACCUUGGAGGCUUUGGUUAAGGAAUUUAUUUGACCCCUUAUUUUGACCCUUGGCAGAAUCGAGUUAGAUUUAGGUUUUUCUUUUUUCUUUUUAGGAUAGUUCCUUUAAGUACAUUUCUAGGAUAGAAUACUUAGGCAUCAUUUUUCGAUCACCUUGGCCCAUUUAGACACUUUUGGCCAAUUUAGGCACAUCCGACCCAUUUAGGAUCACCCUAACCCAUUUAGAUACAUCUGGCCUAUUGAGAUCACCUUGACCGAUUCAGACACUUAGGUACAUCUAACUCAUUUAGGUCACCUUGGCCCAUUUAGACACACAUAGGCCCAUUUAGGCGCAUCCGACUCAUAUAGGAUCACCCUAGCCUAUUUAGACACAGCCAACCUAUUUAGGAUGACCUUGUCUCAUUUAGACACAUUUGUCCUAUUUAGGAUUACCUAGACCCAUUUAGGCACAUUCAACCCAUUUUGGUCAUCCUAGCCCAUUUAGACCACUUAGGCCCAUUUAGGCACAUUAGGCACAUUGGACCCAUUUAGGAUUACCCUGGCCUACUUAGGCACGCCUUAACCCAUUUAGGUCACUUGGCCCAUCUAGGCACAUUUGGCCCAUUUAGGAUGACCUAUGCCAAUUUAGGCACAUUCAACCCAUUUAGGUUGCCUUGGCCCAUUUAGAAACACCCAAGCCUAUUUAGGUCACUUAGGCCCAUUUAGGCACACCUUGGCCUAUUUAGGUCACUUAGGUCCAUUUAGGCGCAUUCGACCCAUUUUGGAUCAACCUGACCCAUUUAGGUAUAUUUGGCCCAUUUAGGAUCAUCGUGGCUCAUUUAAACACACCCUGGCCCAUUUAGGUCAUUUAGGUCCACUUAAGAACACAUUAACCCAUUUAGGUCACUUAGGCCCAUUUGACCCAUUUAGGAUCACCCCCAGCCCAUUUAGACAUACCCAAGCCCAUUGAGGUGACUUAGGUCAAUUUAGGCACAUUUGGUCCAUUUAGACACUUUGGGCCCAUUUAGGAUCAUCUAGGCCCAUUUAGGCACAUCCAACCCAUUUAAGAUCACCCUAGCCCAUUUAGACACAUUCGACCCAUUUAGGAUCGUCUUGGCCUAUUGUAGCACAUUUGGCCCAUUUAUGAUCACCAUGGCACAUUGGGCCCAUUUAGGGUCACUUAAGCCCAUCUAGGCACACCCUAAGCCCAUUUAGGUCACCCGUUGUUUCACUUCUUAUUGCAUGGUUUGCGUGAUUGCAUUGUUGAACUUCCUUGCAUGGCUUGCAUGACACUUUGUUUUUUUUUUUUGUUAUUAUUAAUUACUUCUUUAUUUUUAUUUAUUAUCUUUCUAUUUAUUUAUUUAUUAUUUACUUAUUUAUCUAUUAUUAUUUCAGCAUUUUCUAAAUUAUUUUUAAAUACUAUUCAUUUGUUCAAUCUAAUUUUAUUUUUGUGUUUUUGUAGGGAAAUUUACCAAAGAGAGAGCCAACGGAGAUGGAAAGUAAGAAUCACCAAAAUGAAAAAGGAAGAUAAUGGCGAAAGAGAGUAAUACUUACCAAAAAGAGAGGGGAUUGUGAGUUGCAUUAUAAAAGUAUGGAGAACACAAUUUGGGAAGUUUAUCAAAGAGAGAGCCAAUGGAGGUGUAAAACAAGAAUUACCAAAGUGAAAAAGGAAGACAAAGCGACAGAUAGUAAAACUUACCAAGAGAAGAGGGGAUUGAGGGUUGCAUUAUGAAAAUAUGGAGAACAUGUUUUGGUACUGAGAAAUUCAACACAUGGAGAAGGUUUUGGAGUAAGGAGAGGAAGGAUUUCGUCAAGGUGGAAUUUUAAGAAAAAAGGAUAUUCAAUGUGGUAGGAAGGAAUGUUUAGCAUAUUAAGGAAGAAUGUGGGGAUAGGUAGGGGGGAAGAAGAAUAAUUGCAAUUUGUUUUUUUUUUUUUGGUAGAGAGAACACUUUGGCAAAUUUUUGGGAGGUUCAACGUGCAUGUACAAUAAGAUCUCUUGAAAGAGCACGUAUAGAAGAGGGCACAAAUUUUUUUAGGAGACAAUUAGUUGCAUCUUAAAAGGGAAUUGAAGGUAAAUAUUGAUGAUGAUAUUGAUUUUAUUAGUUUCGAAAAUAUUGAUAUUAGUUUCAUGAAUAUGGAUGUUUUAGUUUAGAUAGAUAUUGAUGUUUUAGUUUUGAAAAUAUUGAUGUUUGCUAAGAUGUUUUGAUUUGGAUAAAUUUUGACAUUUUAGUUUUGAUAAAUAUUGAAGUCUUGGAUGUAUUUGCAUGUUGGUUAUAUUAAAAAAAAAAAAAAUUCCAAAAGUUUAGUUUUCAUGAAAUUGAUUGUUAGUUAUUUCUAUAAAAAAUAAAAAUAAAAAUAAAAAUAAACAUAAAUCUUGGAAUGUAAUUUUGAUUAAAUUAAUUGUUAGUUGUUUUUUUUUUAAAAAAAAUAUAUAUAUAAAUUCUUGGAAUGUUCAUUUGAAUAUUUUUUUGUUAAUUUUGUUUUAAAAAUUUAUUGGAUGAUUAGUUUGGGUAUAAUUUGUAUGUUAAUUUUAUUUUAAAAUUUCAUUGGAUGAGUAAUUUGUAUAAUUUACAUGUUAGUUUUAUUUUAAAAAUUCAUUGGAUGAUUAAUUUGUAUAAUUCACAUGUUAGUUUUAUUUUAAAAAUUAAUUGGAUGAUUAGUUCAAGUAUAAUUUUUGUUUGUUUUAUUUAAAAAAUUAAUUUGAUAAUUAGUUGAAGUACAAUUUUUGUUAGUUUUAUUUUAAAAAUUCAUUGGAUGAUUAAUUUGAAUAAUUUUUAAAUUAAUUUUAUUUUUCUAAAUUCAUUGGAUGAUUAGUUCGGGUAUAAUUAGCUUGUUUAUUAUAUUUUAAAAUUUUAUUAGAUGAUUAAUUUGUAUAAUUCACAUGUUUGUUUUAUUUUAAAAAUUAAUUGGAUGAUUAGUUUUGGUAUAAUUCUUGUUAAUUUUAUUUUAAAGAUUCUUUGUAUGAUUAAUUUGUAUAAUUUUUGUUAGUUUAAUUUUAAAUAUUCAUUAGAUGAUUAAUUUGUAUAAUUCGCAUGUUAGUUUUAUUUUAAAAAUUAAUUAGAUGAUUAGUUCAAGUGUAAUUUUUGUUAAUUUUAUUUUAAAAAUUCUUUGUAUGAUUAAUUUGUAUAAUUUUUCUUAGUUUUAUUUUAAAAAUCAAUUGGAUGAUUAAUUUGGGUAUAAUUUUUGUUAAUAUUUUUAGAAAUUAAUUGGAUGAUUAAUUUGUAUAAUUUACAUGUUAAUUUAAUUUUAAAAAUUCAGUGGAUAUUUAAUUCAUAUAAUUUGCAUGUUAGUUUUAUUUUAAAAAUCCAUUAGAUGAUUAAUUUGUAUAAUUCACAUGUUAUUUUUAUGGGAUGAUUAGUUUGGUUAUAAUUCACAUGCUGGUAUUAAUUUAAAAAUUCAUUGGAUGAUUAUUUUGAGCAUAAUUUUUGUAAAUUUUAUUGGAUGAUUGGUUUGUAUAAUUUUAAUGUUAGUAGAGUUUAAAAUUUUAUUGAAUGAUUGCUAGGUUAAAUUCCCAUGUUGAAUGUGUUUUAAAAACUCGUUAAAAAAAUUAAAUAAAAAUUCUUUGAAUGUUUAUUAGGUUAAAUUCUCAUGUGGGCAUUAUUAUUAUUAUUAUUAUUUCAAAGAUAAAAAAACAAAAAAAUCAUUUAAUGCCAUAUUUGGUUGAAUUUUCAUGUCAAUAGUUUUUUUUUAUUAAAAAAAAAAUUGUUGAAGUUUGUUAGUUUAAACGUUUAUGUUAAUAUAUUUUUAAAAUUCAUAGGAUGUUGUUGGCAUAAUUCUUAGUUGCCCUUAUCUUGAUACUUAUUGUGUUUGUUCCUUGAAGAAUUCUUAUAUUUGAUUUAAAAAAAAAAUCGAAUUGAAAAUUACUUUUUGAAAAAAAAAAAAGGAGAAAAGAAAAAAAUUGAAUUUUUUCCAUAUUGAACGAGGCUUCUUGAUUUCAAAUGGAAGACAAUAAAAAAGAAAUAAAAAUCCUUAUUGUGUAUAUAUUGUUUGAGGUUUACUAAUUCACUUGAUCCUUUUUUUCUUCUUUGAAAAAGAAAAAACCAUCUUCAAAAGUAUUUAAACCGUCAAAAGGAUUUGGAAACAAAUACUCAUUCUAGGUUUAAGGACCAUAUUUUAUUUUCAAAUCAUGCAUUCUACUAUUUUAUUUUCAUCUAAGCUGCAUUCUACUUUUUUUUUUUUCUUCCAAAAUGUUGUUUUUUAUUCCACAUAGAUUUGAAUGUAUUAGAUAAUUUUGAAGAUGGCCACCUAACACAUGCGACCCAUCUCUAAAACCUUUCUAAAAUAAGAAAGUCAUCCAAGAAAAUAAAAAUAAUAUAAGAAAAAGGCAAAGUUGUUGCCUUUUUUUUUUUUUUUUUUUUUUUUUUGGGCCUGUAUUUAUUUAUUAAUUUAUUUUUGUCAAUCUCCUACAAGAUCAUAUCCCACUUACCCCCUUACGCAGCAAGAAGAGCGCGUGGGACACCCACUUCGACCCCACAACUUUAUGAUGAAUCUGAACCCUGUGGACAAUAAUACCACGUGCAUACGAGCCUGUAACACUCAUUUAUGGGUUUAAAUUCAUUCAAAUGAGUCAGUAGUAAAAGCUAUGAAAUAGAUCGAACCCCACCUUCUUUUUCGUUUUUAAAUUUUCUGGGGUCCCUCAGUUACUUUACAGAAGGUGGCAGAGAAAGAGAGAGAGAGAGGAGUUAUUAGAGUUACAGACGAACAAUCACUUUCAAUGCUGUUGUCUUCUUGUUGUAAGGGUAAAAUAAGAGGCAAACAAAUUAAUGAAUUCAUUAUCUUACCUUUCUAUUCAAAUGCCUUCCAAGAAAUGUUUUGAGAGCUUUGAGUUUAGUCUAUAAUAAUGGUAGUAUAUUUCAAUGAAUAUGCGUUCUAGAAAAAUAUAUACCUUUAGCAUAUACCAAGAUAUCCUAGGGUUUCAAGUCGUGUUACAACGGGGAAGUAAUAACCAAUCAAAACACAUGACUUUGUUUUCUAAAAAAUCACUCUUCUUGGAAAACAUGCAAGGAACUUAAGCAUCAUAAGUUAAGCAAUCCUAGAUGGAUGUUCGAGUAUCCAGCUCUUUUCUUUAAUCCUAGAUGGAGAGAGACAACAUCUGCUCUCUCUCCAGCAUGCAAGUGUGCGUCCUAGGCAGCUCUUUUGUGCUUUAAAUGAAUUGAAUACUUGAUCUUAUUCUGCCAUUGUUUUGGCUCAAACCUAGGAAGUAUAUUUACCCUGACUUCUUUUCAUGUCUUCAACUUACUUAAAGGCUCACAAGUCCCAUUGGAAGCAAGCAGUUAAGGAUUUUUGAACUAAAAUGAUCAAACAUAGUCUUGCUUUACUAGUAGGUUAUACUCUUUUCAACAGUUUAAAUUGCUUUUGUUGAUAGAUUAUAUGGAUGUUUUAACACUCCAAGAAAUUGGAAUGAAGCAAAAUAUGAAGAAAGAAGAAAUGACUGUCAAUGGAUAUAUUUAUUCUCUUUUAUUUCUAUUGAUACUAAAAUUUUUAGGGAUAAAGGAAUUGUUACUGUUGUCCAAAUAUUUAAAAUUCAUCUGGAUCUGCAAGAAACCUGCAAGGGAAUAUUUUCUUAGAAAUAAUGGUUUAAAUAAGGAAAAGAAAAUAUAUAGAUGAAUUGACUGAAGGUUGCAGACAAGGGACCAACGACCAGGUAAUGGAAGACUGGAGAAAGGGAUUCAUCGGUUUGAUUUUUCUCCCAGCUGGCCCAGUUGUUUAUUUCAAAGUGCAGUUUAGAACAACUUUCAACAUUUGAAUAAGGAAAAGAAAAUAUAUAGAUGAAUUGACUGAUUCAAAGGGCAUAUUACAGUCAGUCUGUGCGUAACAGGGCGGGUGACUUCAAAUGGAUACACUGAGGUCUAUCUGUGCGUGUUAGGCAUUCAUGAACCUGUUUUCUUCGGUCAAAGAGCUGCCAAUACAAGGAAAAAAAAAAUGGCGAAAAUUAAGUAAAGUAUGACUUCUGGAAGAUUUAUCGCCUUCGUAAAUGAAGUGAGAGUUUUGACCGAAUUGAAGUAAAAAAAUUAAAUGCAAAACUUCCACUAAAGCUUGGCAUCAUUUUUCAAGGUUCUUUGUCAAUCCCUCAUUCUCCAGAACCAUGGGAUUGGUAGAGAAACUCAUUCUUCUCAACCAUGGCUCUUAACCAAUGGUUAAUUACCUUGCAACAAUGCAUGAUAUUAUUGAUGAAUUGGACCUUCUUAGAGAAGCCAUUCCAAAUUAAUAACUCAUCACUUACACAUGCAAACGUGUCGCCCCGAAUUCAAUGAAUUGUUGUUAUAUGCACACGAGAUACUAUGAUCACAUUUGAUGAGUUUCAUGACAAAUUAGUCGAAUAUGAAGCCUUCCUCAUGUAGCUUAAAACCAAAUAUGUCAUCAAAGAAGAUAGCAAUAAUCACCCCCACACAAUGAUAUCUAUUAUAAUACAUUAGCUGUAUCGAACACAAAUUUCCUUCAAUAUGUGUCUCAAUAUUAAAGUCCACGUAGAAUCAGGUGUGCACCAUAUUGGGGUUGGAUAGUUAUAAGACUGAAAGGAGCAUGAGCAUAGGAUGGCGAAAGUUCAAAUGAGAAGCGUUGUAAGAUCAUUGCCAAAGCUGUUUUUGCCUCCAUCAUUGCAAAAUUUUGUCCAAUGCACACCCGAGGACCCCAACCGAAUGGUAAAAAUGAAACUUGGUUUUUUGUUGCCUUUGAAACUCCUUCAGCAAACCUCUCUGGAUUAAACUCCUUUGCAUCGUCUCCCCAAAUUUCAUGAUCAUGGUGAACUAGGAUGGUGGGCAAAGAGACCUGCACUCCGGCUGGAAAAUACAUGUCUCCCACUUGAGUGUCCUUAGAAACCAUUCUGGUAAGCACUGUUACUGGUGGAUAUAACCUAAGAACCUCAUGAAAAAUCAUGGUAACCUGUGGUAGAGAAACUUUAGAAGUUGUAGCAUGAAAAUUGUUACUGAAAUACAUCUUAAAUCCUUAUGAAGGACACUGACGGAUAAAGGAAUUGUUUAAAAUAGUAAUGCAGAAGAGAUAUUGGUCUAAAUCAUGCAUGGCAUGAUGUCAAGUAUACAAAGGAUAUAAUAAUUUUAGAACCUCAUGAAAAAUCAUCAUAAUCUAGAGAAAUUUCAAGUCAUGGCAUGAGAAUCCAUUCCUGAACUAUAAGUAAAUGAAAGAAAAUGUUCAGUACAAGAUAAAAAAAAUAAAAAAAAAGUUAUGCGUUUUCAUUUUUACUCCAUUUAUUUUUCUCUUUUUUUUUUUCCUUUUGUGUGUGUGUGUGUGAGGGUGGGGGUGGUGGGUGGAAUAGAGUGGACUGAGUACUCACAAUUUUUAGGUGGUUUAAGCCAUCAUUUUCAGGUUUGUUAUUCCCAAAAACCUGUAAAACCUCUUCUCUUGCACGAGCUUGCCAGUCUGUAUGUUGGCUUAGCAGGACCAUUGUCCAUAAAAGCAAAACUGAGGUUGUCUCUUGGCCAGCAAGAUAGAAUAGCUUACAUUCAUCAAUGACAUCUUUGGCACUCAUUCCAAUCUUCGUGUUAUUUUGAUGUUCUUGAAUUUCUCUAAAAUUGGAUUCCAUUAAUAUACCUAAUAAGUCACUAUUAGCAGUUUCGCCAGCCUCCAUUGCCUUCUCCCUUUUGUUGAUGAUGCCCCCCAACAAUGCAUGUACUUCUUUGCUUAUUUGCUUCAUCCUCUUGUUCGUCUUUGUGGGAAAAAACCUGCAACUUAGUAAUUCCAGUAAAUAAAAGAUCACAUGAAGAACACUGACAUUAAUUUUUUGAAGCUUGUAUAACACUUCAUAGGCAGAAACUAUCAGACAAUAACUAAUGGUUUCAUCUACACAUGUAUUGCGGUGGCAUCUUAUCAUCUUGGCACAAUAUCUGGCCAACACAAGGCAUGGGGAUGCUAGACCUCAAUUUAUGAAACACACUACUUUCUAAGUGCUACACAGAAAGAACAGAAAGAACAGUCCUAGUAAAUGAAGUAUAAAGGCAUGAAAACAUAAAAUUGUCCAGGUAAAUGAAGACAUGCAAUGAAGAAGAAAACUAUUGCAGGCUACACAAAUCACAACCACAUAAAUCAACCACCCACCCAUUUUCAAACUUCCAGCUCUCAUGCACUGGCACAGUUCGGUCCUCUUAAAGAUUAAAGUAGGCAUCUAAAAUUUUAUUGGUUUCAAGGAAGAGAACCUUUUUAUUCUAAAUAUUUAAUAGUAGAUUCCUUUCUUAGCUUACCAGUAUAUAUAUAAAUUACUCAGGACCUUAAGAAGUUGAUAUUAUAAUUUAAACAAUGUUAUAUCAUGUGUAUUAGGAGAGAACCAAUCUCACCCACAAAUAAAGAGCACUCAAUUGUCAAUUCUUAAGUUUAUGACUAAUAUAUGUAUACUUAUAUAGUUUAUGUAUCUUUUGGAAAGUCAUGUGUAUAUUUAAAAGAUUAUAGUGUACACCAAUAAUAAUAUACCUGCACCAUUCAUCUAUGCACCUCCUAGAGCUCCCAUGAGUUCUUUUUUUCUCCUUCAUCCUACGUUUCACCAUGGCUGAAGCAAGCUCAACCAGGCUAUCCCACCUUCCCUUACCUAUCAAUACCACCAUGAACCUUAACAAUCUCAUUGCCAUCAACACAAUUAGCUAGCCAACUUCUACUCAAGCUCAUCCUCACUAACUAUUACUCAUGGAAAACAUAGUUUGGUGCACUGCUCUUUGGAUAUGACCUACUUGGCUACAUUGACGAAAUAAAGCAAGGACAAACAAAUCUCAAUCCUAACUAUACUUUUUGGACAAGUAGGACAAACUUCUUCUUCUAGGGAUCAUCGGCUCUCUCAGCCACAAAGUCGUACCUGUGGUUCAUUCAUGCAAAACUUCCACUAAAGCUUGGCAUCAUUUUUCAAAGCUAUGUCAAUCCCUCAUUCUCCAGAACCAUGGGAUUGGUAGAGCAACUCAUUCUUCUCAACCAUGGCUCUUAACCAAUGAUUAAUUACCUUGCAACAAUCCAUGAUAUUAUUGAUGAAUUGGACCUUCUUAGAGAAGCCAUUCCAAACCAAUAACUCAUCACUUACGCAUGCAAACGUGUCACCCCCGAAUUCAAUGAAUUGUUGUUGUUAUAUGCACACGAGAUACUAUGAUCACAUUUGAUGAGCUGCAUGACAAAUUAGUGGAAUAUGAAGCCUUCCUCAUGUAGGAAGAGCUUCGCUCCACUAGCAAUCUUGGUACCAUUAAAGUCAACAAUACACAAUUUUCAUCUUCCCAUUGUGACAAAAACGCUAGCCAAAAAUAUUUCCCUAGUAGGAAAGGAUACCAAGGCCAGCGUCCUCCUCAUUUUGGGAAUCAACACCCCAGCAAGAAAGCCACUAUGAUUUGCCAAUUCUCUGAGAAGAAAGGUCAUACUGCUUGCUAGUGUUACAUUUCUAAGAAAUUGUUCCUUUCAUCCACACCUACUACUAGUCCAAUUAUCCCCACAAACAACUCCUUAACCAAUUGGUUCGUAGAUAUCAGUGCCUCACAUCUUGUUACAUUUUAUCUUAACAACUUGUCUCUCUGCCAACCAAUGAAUCUUGUCAUUAAUAUUUUUCACAUUUCCUAUACUUGGAGGGUUGUUCCAAGAUUAAAUAAAGUAUUUUCCCAUGCUAGUCUAAAUAUAGUCUUUUCCUUUUCUUGGAGGGUUGUUCCAAGAUUAAAUAUGCUCAGUUUCAGAAUUGAGAGGACUUUUUCAUAUUGCUAAGAAAAAAACUUGUGAGUUUGAUUUUUCUAUCAAAGGUUUAUCUCUAAGGUGGAUUCCUCUGAGUGGUGAGCUUAAUUGUGAGUUCUUAUCUGUAAGGUGAUGAAUUUCUUAUCCUUAAAAGUGGUGAACUUGUGUUAUUAGCUCAUCAUUUUAUUUCCUUAAAACGGUAUCAUUUUGUGUUGGAAAAUGUAGUUACAAGCUUCCUUCAAGUUUCUCAUGUAUCAACCCACAAUCAACUUGUAGAUAUACUCAACAAACCAUUGCCCAAGUCCCACUUUACAUUCUUUCAGUCCAAGAUUGGCGUUUUUUAUGGAAGCACCAUCUUGCAAGGGCAUAUUAGGAGAGAACCAAUCUCACCCACAAAUUAAGAGCACUCAAUGGUGAAUUCUUAAGUUUAGGAGUAAUAGAUGUAUAGCCUUGUAUAGCUGUUGUAUCUUUUGGAAAGUCAUGUGUAUAAGAUUGUAGUGUACACCAAUACUAAUAUACUUUCACCAUUCAUCUAUUUACCUCUUUAAUGUGGAAUGACAACUGCACCAAAAGAUACUUUGGUGCCUAUACAUCCAUUAGUUUUUCAAUUAAACUGUUGAACAAAUGCCAUGAAUUGAGGUACUUUUGAGAGAUAAGAAAGCUCUUACCUUCAUCAAUUAAGCAAUGAAUGAAGGUACUUUUGAGAAGAUUUUCAGUGCAACCAUAACCAAGGAAGUAUGAGAGAUAUUACAUUUUAAGUACACAUAACAAAGUUAACAAUACACAAAAGGUUAAUCUUCAAACUCUUAAAAGAGAAUUUGAAAGUUUGAGUGUGAAAAAAAAAAUUGAAUUAAUCUCUAAUUAUUUUUCUAGAGUAUUAGAUGUUGUGAGUUUACAAUAAAAAUAUGUCAAAAGUUUGAAUGAUAGUUAUGUGGUAAAAAAAUAUGUUUAAUCUUUAGAUUCCAAAUAAGUUUAACUAAAUUGUUGUUGUCAUUGAAGAAUCUAAACAUUUAGAUUCUAUGACCAUUGAUAAACUCAUGAGACCACUAUAAGCUCAUAAAAAGAGAUUAAAAAGAAAUAACUAAGAAAAAUUGCAGCUUUUUUAAGCAAAUUAAACUUACACUAAAGGAGAAUGAUGAAAACAUUAGUUAAAGAAGUCAAAACAAUCAUGGAUAUGUCGAAGACGUGGUCAUAGACAUGGCUAAGACAAUAGAAGAAGAGAUAAGUUUAAUUUAUCAAACAAUGAAAUAACAAGUCAAAAUUCACAUUCCUUAGGAGGACAUGAAAGAUGACACAACUUAAGGCACAGUAAAAGAAGAGGAUAUGAUAAAUUUCAAAUUGAAUGUUAUAAUUAUAAAAAAAUAUGGUCAUGAUGCUUAUGAAUAUAGAAAUGCUACAAACAAUAUGAAAAGACACCUCCAAGGUACUAAAAAUAAAGAUCAAGAAGAACCAACCUUAUUAUUGGCAUAUAAAGGAGAAAGCUAGGAGAAAAUUACAUGGUAUCUUAACCUCUAAGUAAAAUCAUAUGUGUGGAUUCAAAAAUGUGUUUGUAGAGCUUAAUGAAUUUGAAAGUGGCAAUUUUGCCUUUGGGGCUACAUGUAAAAUUCCAAUAAAAAGAAGAGGUAAAAUCUUGAUUCAUAUGAAAAUGGAAGGCAUAUUUCAAAUGUCUACUAUGGUGUAACAUGGAAAACAAUAUAUUAAGUUUAGGUCAACUCUUAUAAAAGGGCUAUGAUAUUUAUCUCAAAAAUAAAAGUGUCUUAAUAAGAUACUAACAUGCCAAUAUAAUUGGUAAUGUGCCCAUGAUAUAAUGUUUUUGAAUAACAUUCAAAAUAAUAUUGUAAAAUGCCUAAAAUCUCAUGUCAAUAAUUCCUCUUGAAUUUGACACUUAUGAUUUGAACAUCUUAAUUUUAGAGGAUUGAAAUUGUUAAGCAUGAAAAACAAUGAAAUAAUUGUUCUUUAAUAAUUUGUGUCAAUUGUGUGAAAGAUGUUUACUCAGAAAAUAUGUCUAAAAAAGUUUUCCAAAGGAAGAAACAACAAGAGAAGAAGCUUUCAGUGCUCAUUAAUGUGGAUAAUCCAGUUUUAAUUUUUAUGGGUGAUUCUAGUAAAAAAUAAAAAAUAAAAAAAUUUGGUUGUAUCUUUAGCUCAAAAAUUUGUUGAAGAAACUUAAUUUACCACAAGAGAAACCAAUAAACAUCUAUAUGAAUAUAAAAUUGGUGAUUGCCUUAGAAAAGAUAUCUAGUUCUCCAUGAUUGAAGCAAGUAUAUUAAUACAAAAUAUCAUUUAUUAGAAAGUAUAUUAUGAAACAUGAAGUACACAUAAAAUUUGCAAAAUCUCAUAAUCAAAAUUUGAAAAUGCUUAUAGAGCCUCUCAAGUUUAAAGAUUUUAGAUAGCUAAGGAUGCUACUUUUACAAAUCAAGUUGAAAAGGGCAUGUAAGUUUAACUAUAUUUAGAAAGUUUCUAAAAAUUAGAAUUUGAGUCUUUCUAAAUAUUAAUUAAAAUAUUUUAUAUUAAAAGGUUGAUUUAGUUUCACCCUUAGAAUCUAAGCCUUUCAAAGUGCCAAUAGUUGUUAGUUGUAGAUAAGGCUUUCCUUUUUACAGCUCUGGGUUCUAAUCUAUAUAACCUCCUAAUGGUACAAAGUGCACCUUUUUCAUAGAGGCAAGUAGUAACCUAUUGUUAGCCCCUUGAAAUGGACUAUGAGGCACUAAGGCCUCAUGGGGCAAUAGCUUCACAUCAUGAGUAACCUAUGAUGGCAAUAAGGUGGCACAGGGGUACAAUUCCUUGUGCAAGGAGAUGGCUUGGUGAGCCAUGGGCGUAAUGCCAUGAUAGGUACAACACUAAAAGAGACUUAGAUGAGCAUAUUGUUGUGGUGACUUAGAUGAAAUACAUGAGGGUGCAAUGCCUUGUGCAUGGGGAGUCAUAGGUGCAAUGCCAUGACAUGUUGCCAGACCAAGAAGAGGGUUUGGGCAAAGCAUAGAGUCACAACAUCAACAAGGUGAAUGUCGGAGCAUGUUGCCUCAACAUGGAUGCAAUCUAGAUGUGUAGGCCAAAAGAGAACUUAACAUGCACAUGAGCCAUUUAUAUAGAUUCCUACAACAACAACAUUCAAAGUUGGACUCGAAGUAGGAUUGCAAGUCAAGCAUGAGUAGGAGUCUUGAUGUGAAUUGUAAUUGUAGUAUGAUUAGGACUAGGACUUAGAGUCUACGUAAGAGUGUUUAUUUCCAUAACCUAUUAAGAAAAGUCCUUAUAUAACUAGGAGUAAAACUCCUAGUCUAACAGAGAGCAGGUGGUGCCACUCUAUAAAUAGGGAGGGUUGGAUAGACUUUAGAGAGAGAUCAAGAGGAAGCCUGAACUACCAAAAGUAUUGUGGAAGUGUAGCUAAAGUCUUGUAUUCUUAUUCAAUAAGUUAAUAAAAUAUAAUUUAGGGUUGAUGCCCUAUAAAUCUUGUGUAUUGCCUUGCGUGUUGUCAUCUAGUGGGGAAAGGUGUAGGUUAGCUUAGAGAGCUUCUAAGUAUUUGCAUAGAUGUGAAAGUUUAUGUGGGAAUUUUGCACCUAUGACAAUUGGUAUCAGAGACUAACAAGCAAAUGGUUGGGGGAAGUACUAUAGAGACCUUAAGAGAAAGGAGCUCAAGACUAGAAGAAUUGUUAGGGGAAUAACAAGGUGAUAAGUUGGUUGGCUUGAGAAUCCUUGAAACAAUUGAAGCACACUAGUUCAACAUAGGAGUAUAUCGAGGAAUUUAGUUCCUUAAUGCUCGACAUAAAAAAUAUGUCCAAUGAGGACAAAUUGUUCAACUUCAUGUUUGGAUUGUAGGGAUGGGCCUAAAUUGAGUCACAAAGAUAAUGGGUGUGAGAUCUUUCUAUUAUAAUCAUUGCAACAGAUUGUUUGGUAGUCUAUAAGUUGAAUGGUGUGAACUCUACAAAUCAGAAACCUAAACUAGAUGGAGCAAAGAAACCUAAUAAAGAGGGGAAAUCUUCUAAGAAGUCAUAUGAGAAGAAUUUGAAAAAGCCUGCAGCAUCGUAAUCGAAUGAAAAAACUACUAAGUAUGGGUAGCAAACAACCAAACCCAUGGGUUGAUUCAUUUGCAUGGCCCUCACUGUGCUAAGAAGUGUCCAAAAUGGGAAAAACUAUCAGCCCUUAUGGCUACUAAAAGUAGUGGUGAUUCUGACAUGGAUACACCUUUAAGAGUUAAUCCUUCAUAGCUCUUGAACAUAAUCCACGCAAAUGCACUAAUUCAAAAAGGGUUGAUUCAUGUCCAAGUGCUAGUAAAUGGCAUGUAGGUAAAACCAAUGAUGGACAGAAGGGCAACCCAUAAUUUUGUGGCUAGUAAGAAGCCAAGAAGCUCAGUUUGGAACUAGAACAAUACACUAUUAAGAUCAAGGCAAUAAAUAGCAAAGCCCAACAAAUUAAUGACAUUACCAAAAAAGUCUCACUCUAAGUCGGAAAUUGAGAAGGCAACUAUAGCUUGCUAUGUGUACCCUUAAACGAUUUUGAUUUGAUCUUAGGGAUCGACUUUUUCCUUAAGGCUAAGCCGGCAUUGCUCCCAUACCUUGGUAGGUUAAUGAUCAUGGAUGAGAGUCAACCUUGGUUAUUUUUUCUAUAAAGGAAAAAGUCAUAGAGAAAGGUCAAACCAAGAUGGUUUCUACGCUUCAAAUAAAGAAAGGGUUGAAGUGUGGGAAUGUCACGUAUAUUAUAACCUUGGUUGAGAACAAAGCAGAUCAUUCAAUGGAGGUGCCACAUAGUGUAGCCCAUAAUAAAAAAGAAUUUAAAGAUGUGAUGCCUACAAAAAAACCCAAGGAGUUGCCUCCUAAGCACCAUAUAGACCAUAAAAUUGAGUUGCCACCUAGGACCAAACUUCCUACUGAUCAGGUCUCAUAUUGGAUGUCACCUUCGAAUUACUUGGGUUAAGGAAGUAAUUGAAGAAACUGUUGGAUGCAGGCAUGAUCCAAUCUUCAUGGGUUCCCUAUGGUACUCCUAUUCCAAAAGAAGGAAGAUGGGACCCUAUAGAUGUGUGUUAAUUAUUGGGCCUUGAACAAAGUAACGAUCAAGAACAAGUAUCCAAUCUCCUUAGUGGUAGAAUUAUUUAAUAAAUUGGCCAAGGCAAAGUUUUUCUCCAAAUUGGACUAGUGGUUAGGAUACUAGCAAGUAAGGAUUUUAGAGGGGAACGAAAAAAAGACUACAUGUGUAACCCGCUAUGGGUCAUAUCAGUUCCUCAUGAUGCCAUUCAAACUAACUAAUGCCUCAAUAACAUUCUACAACCUAAUGAAUGAUAUGCCAUACGAGUUCCUAGAUGCCUUUGUUAUGGUUUGCUUCAAUGCAUUAUUGUUUAUAGCAAGACCUUAGAAGAGCACGUGAAUCACUUGAGACUAGUGUUUCAAAGACUAAGAGAACAUGAAAUCUACGUGAAGAGAGAGAAGUGUGAGUUUGCACAAAGGCAUAUUACCUUUCUAGGAUGUAAGAUAGAGGAAGGGUUGAUCGAGAUGGAUGAAGUGAAGGUCCAGGCCAUUAAAGAUUGGCAUGCUCUAAGCAAGGUGACACUGGCAAACUACUAUUGAAGGUACAUAAGGGGUUACUUCAAGAUAGUGGCUCCCUUUACUAACCUUCUAAAGAAGGAUAUUUGCUAGGAUUGGGGGUUUGAAUGCUAGAAAGCUUUUGACAAGUUGAAAGUGGUGAUUUUAGUUAAAUUGGUGCUACAUUUACUAGAUUUGGAUAUCCUAUUUGAGGCCCAAACAAAUGCAUCAACUAAGGCCUUGAACUUGGUGCAAGAAAGGCACCCAAUAGCCUUUGAGAGUCAAAAACCUAAUGAGUUAGAACAAAGAUACUCCACUCACGAGAAAGAGAUGACAACGAUUAUCCAUUGCUUAUAGUAGUGGAAGCAUUAUCUAUUGGGGAGUAUAUUUACUAUAGAUGGUCACAGACAACAUAGUUAAUACCUUUUUCAAGAUGCAGAAGGAGUUGAGCCCUAAGCAAGCUAGGUGGCAAGAAUUCCUUGGCGACUUCAAGUUUGAAUGGUUGUAUUGACGAAAAAGACAUAAUGUAGUUGUAAAUGCCUUGAACCAAAAGGAAUUAACAGAGUAUGUAAUCACUCAAUCACAUAUGAUUUCAUAUUUUAAUGAGAAGAUCAAGCAAGCUGCUAAGCUUGAUUCUACUUAUGAGAAUAUGAAACAACAAUUCAAAGAGGGGGCUACUAAAAAUUUUUGGCUAGAAGAUGACCUCUUGGUGGCUAAAAGAGGUAGGCUAUAUGUACCAAGAAGUUGCUUACAUAAGGAGUUGCUAAGAGUGGCCUAUGAUGUCAAGUAGACAGGUCACCCUAGCAAAGAGAUGACAUCAAUAGUAUUGUCCAACUACUAUUACUAGCUAAAAAUAGGAUAGGACAUCCAGACUUAUGUUCUAUAUUGUUUGAUAUGCUAGUUGGAUAAGACAGGCAAGAAGAAAACAAUAAGGUUACUACAACCUCUCCCUAUCUUAAAGAGACCUUAGAAUAACAUAUCUGUGGACUUCAUCGGUGGCUUUCCAAAAGUGAGGGAAUUCAAGUCUAUCUUCAUGAUAGUAGAUAGACUCUCUACGUAUGUUGUUUUCAUACUUACACCACAUGCAUGUCCCGUAGAGGAGGUGACUAGGCUAUUCUUCAACCAUGUGGUCAAGUACGUACUUCAAGUUGCCUAAAGACAUAGUCAGUGAUUGUGAUGCUCGAUUCAUUGGUCAAUGUUGGACUGAGUUGUUUAAACUCCUAGGAUUGAAGUUGAAGUUCUAAAAAACAAAUGAUUCGUAGAUAGACGGGCAAACAAAGUGUAUCAAACUUAAGGAAUACCUCAGACACUAUGUUUUUAUAACACAAAAGAACUGGAUUGAUCUAGUGGAGAUAGCUCAUUUAUCCUAUAACUUGCAUAAGAGUUCAAUAAUAGGGUUGAGUCCCUUUGAAUUGGCUAUAGGGCAACCACUAAUUAUGCCUUGGAGAUGUUUAAGCAAAAGUUUGGUGGUAAUUGUCUUAUAGCUUAUAAAUUUGCAAGGUCUUGGCAGCAGAUGCUCGAUGAAGCUUGUAAAAGCUUAGAGAAGGCAUUUACAAAAAUGAAAAAGUAUGCGGACAAGGGCCGAAGACCCUCAUAAUUUAGAUUGGGGAUAGGGCCCUUCUAAACCCUCAUAUAUGGAAUAAAAUUAGCAGUAAGACUAUGUAGAGGGUGUUGAUUCCCAAAUAUGAUGGACCUUUCAAGGUGAUGUAGAGGGGGAUAAGUAGCUUACAAAUUGAAGUUGCUGGAUAGGUUAAAGAUAUACCUCACGAUCCAUGUGAGCUUCUUAAAGCCUUACCAUGAAAACCUAGACUCAAGAAGGAUACCAACAAGGCGAGUGAUUAGAAAGAAAUUUGAUCGCGAGUGAUAUCAACAAGGUAGAGAAGAUAUUAGAUCAUUGAACUGUGGGAAUGAGUAAGAAAAAUUGAAGAAUUGAUUUUCUAGCUUAGUGGAAGGAUAGUCUUGAAUUAGAGGCUAGUUCGGAAUGAGAUGUAAUGCUCUGGAAAUUUAAGGAGGUAGUCUAAGCCUACCCAUAGUCCAAGUCAAUGAGAGCAUCAACUACAUCAAGUAGAAGUGGUUUGUUAGCCCCUUGACAUGGACCAUGCGAUACUAAGGCCUCAUGGGGUGACACCUUGGCCUCUUGAGUGACCAAUGACAACAACAAGGUGGUAUAAGGGUGCAAUGCCUUAUGGAGGGAGAUGACUUGGUGAACCAUGGGCACAAUGCCAUGGUAAGUGUAGUACUAAGAGAGACUUGAAUGGGCAUAUCAAUGGGGGGCAACGAAGCCAACUUAGAUGCAAUACAUAAGGGGUGUAAUGCCUUGUGCAUAGGGAGUCAUGGGUGCAAUGCCAUGAACUAAGAAAAGGGCUUGGGCAAGGCACAGAGCUGUAACAGCAACAAGGUGGAUGUAGGAGCAUGUUGCCUUGACACAAAUGCAAUCUGAACAUACAAACCAAAAGAGGGCUUAUCAUGCACACGAGUCAUAUAUAUAGAUGCACACGGUAGUAGCAUGAAGAGUUGGACUUGAAGUGGGAUUACAUAUCAAGCAUGAGUAGGAGUCUUGAUGCCUAAUGUAAUUAUAGUCUAAGUAGGACUAGUACUCAAAUUCCAUGUAGGAGUGGUUACUGCCACAACCUAUUAGGACAAUUCCUAGUAGAACUAAGAGUAGCACUACUAGUCUAAUAAGGAGUGGGUGGCACCACUUUAUAAAUAGGAAGGGUUGGAGAAACUCUUGAGAGGGAUCUAGAGAAGGAAAUCAUAAGGGAGGUCAAAACUCACCGAAGCUAUUAUGGAAGUCUGGCUAAAGUCUUUUAUUCUUAUUUAAUAAGUUAAUAAAAUACAAGUUGGGAUUGGUGCCUUGUAAACCUCAUGUGUUGCUUUGCAUGUUGUUGCCAUCUCAUGGGGGAAGGUGUAGAUUGGCUUAGAGAGCUUUUAAAUGCCACAUAGACAUGAAAAUUUAUGUGGGAAUUUUGUGCCUAUGACACAUAACCUUUAAAAGUCUAUUCAAGGGGGACCCUUCAUCUCCCUUCAUAUAUUUAAUUAUUUGCCUGUUUUUUCAACCCUAUUAAUGCAACAUAGGUGAAUUUGCCCGAUGGUUUAUAAGAAAAUUCAUGUCAGUUAUGUUCAACAUGUUAAAUUCUACUAGGCUUAUGUAUCGGUAUGUAGAUUAUAGCUUCUUCCCCUAAGCCCAAAUUUUUCUUUGGUUUCAUGGUGUUAACAUUUCAUGAAAGUAAAUGCUCCAUUGAAGAAUAAAUUUACCUAAAAUUGAAUAUGGUGUGCUAGGACAUAGAGAUUUAUUAAAUGUUAGGAAAAUGUAAGGGUGACUUGAAACCUAAAUUUGAGCAAAUAAAAAGUCUAUUUAACAGUGCUUUUAGAAAACACUUACAUUAUAGAAAAAAAAACAUUUUUGAAGAAAAACCAAAUGUUUGACCAAAUUUAGAAAAUACUUUUAAAAAGUUCAAAAUUAAAUUAUUUGUAAUGCUUCUUGGAGAAACACUUCACAUAUUAUUCUUCCAAAAAUACUUCUAGAGAAAACCCUUCCACUAAAAGCACUUAAAAUAGAAACUCAAGCAAAUCUACUCUAAAUCUGCCGAAGCACUGCUAAAAUAAUGAAAAAACAAGCAGACUCCUGUAUAUUCAUAAAACUGAGCAGCAUAUUUCUUGAAAUAUUAUAUGAUUUUAUGCAUACCUCCAUCCUGGGAUAUAAACUGACAUUGCAACCUUGAUUGCAAGAUAUGUCUGUUCUUUCUGGAGUUGGAAUAUCCUUCUUCCUUCUUCGUAGCUACUGCCAAAUGCUGUCCGAGAAAUCACAUCCCCUGUCAAAUUUUCAAGAUAGGGCCAAACAUCCAACUCACAUGAUCCCUUCACCGAAAGCUUCUUCCAUUUGUUCAACAUGUCGCUACAACUCAAAUGAAAUGCCGGUAACAUAUUCUAUAACAAGUUCAACCACAAAAUAAAUUAAUAAAGACGAAGAACAUCUCUUCGUUGGUAAAAUUAUGGAAACGGCCCAUUGGAGAAAGAGGGAAAAAGACUCUAUAUGAGUAUGUGAAAAAGAAAGGGAAAAAGAAAGGAAACAGUAGGACACUUGGUAUGUGAAAAACUAGUCACCAGUACUUCAUUAAAAUGACUGAAAUAUUUGGGAAUUCUGAUGUUUAUACAGGUUUUUAUAGGAUUAAAAAUAAUUUUUCAAUUACUUCCAUAUUUAAAAAUAAAAAAUAAAAAAAAUUAGAAAGUUUUCUGGAUGGAAAGCUAGGUUAAUGAUCUUUCUGGAAACUAAGGUAAAAUAUUGUCGUUUGAAAACUGGGCAUUGAAAAUUACCUUCAACUUUUCUGGAUGGAAAACUGGGUUGAUCAUCUUUCUACGUUUGGCCCAUUGUUCACCUUCCAAAACCACUAGACCAGAAACCAGCAACUUGACCAACGGGUGUGAGGGUGUCUUUUGAAAGAUAUUGGACUUCAACAAAACAUCCCUCAUUAGCUCAGGCUCCAUAAUGUUUACCCUUGGACUUGGACCCACCCAUGUAAAGAAAUUUUUUCCUGCAUGUUUAUGCCAUUAUUGGAUAGUGUUAGUCCGGAUUGCUUUUAGUUUGGAUAAUUGUUUUAAAGACCGACUGGUUUGAGCAGUCAGACCGUCGACUGAAAGCAAAUUUGAUCCGGAUCAGCAAUUGAGCCGGUAGGGCUAUUGAACCGCCAUCGAACCGGACGACCCAGCCGUUGAACCAUUGACCUGGUGAACUGGGUCGCCGGUUUGGGCCUGGACCUAUCUCUAAGUGAAACUCUUUCGGCCAAAAUGGGCCAUGGUUUUAGGUUGAAAUUGGGCGAGUGGGCUACCGCUUGGGCCACUCACAGACAUCCACACUCAGGGCAAGCCGACUAUAUAAAGAGAUGUUUAUUCCUCAUGCCAUUCAGAUAUGGGACUAACUUGGGAAAAUUAGGAUAUCAUGACUAUACUAUUUAUGCCUUAUGUAAACAUUUCCACAACACUAGCUUAAAAAAAAAAAAAAAAAAAAAAAAUCUUCCCAAAAUUUUUAUAAUAAUAAAAAUGCAAACAAUUUAAAGUAAACUAAUAUAAUUUUUUAAAAACUAUAAAAUAAUAAGGUGUAUAACUUUUAAUAUCUUUAUAUAUAUAUAUAUAUAUAUAUAUAAAUUAAAUAACUUCACAUCUAAAUAUUUUAUAUAUUUUAUUUAAGAAAAUCUUAAAAUAUUAAUACAUCUACAUAUUAAUUUAAUAAUAUUAAAUAAAAAAUAAAUAUUAUUAUUUUUUAAUUUCUUUAUAUAUUUAAAAUAUUUUAAAUUUUAAUAAUAUAUAAAUUACAUAUUUAUGAUAUCAUUGAUUUGACAAUCAGUUUAAUCAGUGAAUCGUAAGUUGUUAACUUUUUUGGUUUAAUAAUCAAUCCAAUUCUAAAACCGUCGAUUUGGACUACAUAUACCAAGUCUUCUCGAGCUUGUAAUAAAAGAUAAAGAAGAUGAAAUUGUAACAUCUCAAAAUUUGAGCUUGUGGCAUAUGGAAAUCAAUCUAUACAUAAUUACUAUGUAUAUAUUAUCAAAUAUAUGAAUGUAGAAGCUAUUUUAAUUAUCAACCAUAGAAUUGGCAUGGAAUAUUAUAACAUCCCAAAGGUGCGUUGACUUGAAACAUCCCAAAUUAAUUCUAACACUUAAAAAAAAAAAAAAGCAAAAGGUGAAAAAGGAAAAGAAAAAUAGUUAGGAAGAGAAGAACAAAAACUAAACAAAUGAAUCCGGAAUACUAAAAACAUAGAGUAAAUGAUAGGAUCAAGAUACAAAACAAAUGGGAUAAAGAUAGGAUCAAGACACAAAAUAAAAACUCAUAUUUAGCUUUCGAUAUGAUUCAUUUGAUAAGGAUAAUAAAAGAAAAAUAAAUAUAUAAUAUUAAUUGUUUUAUUUAUACAUCAUCACACCGUCUCUAUAUGAAUACCAUCUUCCUAAGAAGAAUAACAUGACUAACAACAAUCCACGACAAUAGUUUUGGAACGAUUGCCAUUUGUUUGUUAAUAUUCUAUUGUCUUGCUAGUAGGGCAUGGACAGCUUUAAUAAAGUAAUUUUUUAGGAGAGUGCAUGUCAUUGGAUUCUUAUAAGGAUGCAUGCCUGUAUCUAGGCUUCAAAUUUAACGUUUUAUCGGUUAAUAAUGCAUUGGGCUCCUCCCAUCCGAUGUUUGAUAGGAUGGAUAAGAAGAAGAAAGUGAAGUAAGAUCAAAAUAUCUGAUCACAUUUAUUUAAAAACUGAAUAGGACAAAUGGGUGAAAUGAUUAGUAGUGAGUCGCCCGGGAUAACACGGUCUGGGACAUUCAUAAUUGCAUUCUUUAUAGCUUCAUUAUUGUUGGUAGACAGUUGAGUGCAUUGUCUUUGACCAUUCCAUGCUAAGCAAGAAUGAUAAAAUUAAAUAGCAGAGAAAAAGAGAAGAAAAAUAAAAGAAUGGUACUUAUACGAAGGUGCUAUGCAGUCUAACAGUACCUGAAGAGAAAGAGUUGGCAAUCAAACAAGGAACAAUGCCUAAGUAUAGAGGAAGUGCUCUGUGCAGAACCUCUACACACGCACAGGGUACUCUACACAAAGAGAUGGCAAAGGAGAACCCUACACAGAGGCCUGCGCAAGUGAUGUGCAUAAUCAGAGAAGAGAAAACGUGCAUAUAUAUAUAGAUGGCCUGCACGAAAUCUGCGCAAAGAGCAUAUAUAUAUAUAUAGAGAGAGAGAGACACACACACACACACGCACAGGGUACUCUACACACAGAGAUGGCAAAGGAUCCUCCUCUGCGCGCACUCCUAGGGCAAUGAAUCCCAAGCACAAGGAGUUCCUGGAGUAGAGAAAGCACGAACGGAGUUAUGAGGUAGCAUUUCUUGAGGGCUCAAAAUUCUGAUAAUGAGUGAUACCUAGUAUCGAAAUUUUGAUACUCAUGUUGAUACCAUGUAACAAAGAGACUUCUCAUGCAUAUAUUCUAGGAGGUAACACUCAACUAUUUUUUUUUUUUUAAAGAAAAUACUAACCUUUUCAUGGUAUCAGAGCCUCCAAACCUACCAGCCAAGAAAAAUGUCUUCACACAUACUUCCAUCCUCCACCCUACAAAUAGAACCUGAAUCAAACUUUCAAUCCUUUCACCAAUGUUCUAGCUUGAUCUCCAUCAAACUGAACACCACCAAAUUUCUAUUGUAAUGCAACCAAAUCGCUCCCUUAGUUUGUAGCCUUAGUGUUCUACAUUAUUUGUCAAAUAGAGAAAAAUUUGCUGAAGAAGUUAAGAAUGACAAGGAGGAAAAAUCUCCAAACUCGAACUAUCAAAGGUGGAUCAACAAUGAUGGACUUUUAACUUCAUCGCUUCUUGGAACCAUAAAAGAAAAUGUCUUAAACUUGAUUGGUGGUGAGCCAGUUUAUCAAGUGUGGAAUUCCCUUGAGGAGUAGUCAUUGCCAAUUACAGUAAAGAAUGAAAGGAAUUUGAAAAAUAUGUUAAUAAUCAUUACAAAGGGUUUUCGAUCUCUUGAAGAAUACUUGACCAUAACAUUCAUUGCUAGUAUUUCAUGCUUAUGAGUUACUCAUUUCAGCCUUUCUUGGACUCUUCAUGGUUCACAAGUCCCAAGUCUUUUAGUUAUGCAUGUUUAACCCCUUCUACUUGUUUGGUUGAUAUUGACUUUUGUACUUAUCAUUUUUUUCAUCUCUUGAACCUGAAUUAGACUCAAAAUGGAAAUUAGAUUCAUAACUAGGGUCUUAGCAUUAAUUUGAGUUAAGUUAGAUAAUUUGAGCUUUUUAUAUUGUAUAAAUCAUAUCAUAUAUAUAUGUCAUUGGAGCAUAUAUUUGGUUCUAAUUAACUGCAUAGGGAAUCCUAGAUCUCUUUGUUCCCCAUCAUAGGACUAGGUUAGGAGCAUGAAAUCUACAUAGGGCAUUUAGAUCCUAUGAACGAAAGCAAAAAUAUAAUUUCUAACAUUGAAGGAUCUAGAAAAGUGUCAUAAAAAACUUUACCUUUGAUUUGGAUUUUCCCAAAUCAAAUCCAAAGUCAUUGGAAGCCUCGUAAACCUAUUAUCUUUUGUCCUAUAACUCUACCUCGAUCCUCAACACUCAAACAAUAAAGUGUUUGGGAAGGUGAAGGCUAAAGCUCUCUCUUCUCUUUAUAUGGUGGAAGAAUACUAACUAGAAACCCUAACCCCUAAGAGGAUAUUUAUAAGGUUCCUUACUAGGCUUAAGUGACUUAAGCCCAGUAAGGGCUUGGGUCACUUAAUACAACCUAAAAGGGUCUAAAUUGAUUUAUUAACCCAACAAAGUUGUCUAAUUAAUUAAUUAGUCCAAUCCAAAGAUACUGUUUACAAACCCCUAUGCAACCUUGUGUAAUUAUCAAAAUGUCAUUAUGCACAUAAGUAAACCUAAAGCUUAUGCAACCCUCAUAAAUCAUGUCAUCAAGGUAUAUGAGCUCUAGUAAGGACCAUUAGGACCUAUCGGAGUACUACUCUCUCAAAAUCCAAUUAUGAAGUUCAUUCAACAUCUCACUACAGAGAAUCAAUUACACUUUGAUACUCUAUGUAAAUAACAACAAGAUGAUGCUUAGGUUCAUGAGUUACUACCCAUUACAUGCAAACUCUCCAUGAACUAGUGUCCAUAAUUUAACAAGGUAGUAUUAUCACAUAUUAAGAUUACCUCUCUAAUCGUUGAGUUAUAAAUCCAUCUAUUAUUUGAUCAAUUGACAUACUCUAACUCCAAGGAGUAUAUGUCGAAUUUCACUAAGUGAAAAGCUAAUGGUCAUAGUCUUCUCAAUGACAUGUCCUUUGGAUCACCUAAGGGAACAUUGUUGGAAUUGACCAUCAAGAUGGGUUUCACAUGAUGAGUGUACUAGUAUGGAUAGUUACAUAUCGUAUAGGAUCAAUGGUGAAUCAUAACAUAAGACUAUUGAUUGUCAUGAUUCACCAAGUUACUAUACUGUAUCAACUCUCAACCUUAAAAUGAUAUCGAGCUUAUGCCAAAGUCAACAAGAGGAGGCUUUGACCUAUGGGUGAGAUCCUAAGGUGGUCACAUAUCCCUAUGGAUUGGAACACUAUUGAUGAAGGUUGGUAGCACUAGGCUUUCUCAAUAAAGGGACCAUGAUAUUUCAUGGGACUGAGACAAUGUAUUGCCUUGGGUAAUCUAAAGGACAUGUGAAAGAAGACUAUGGUCAUAACAUUUUCUUCAAUAAAAAUUUGAUGUAUGCUCCUUAGAGCUAGAGUAUGUUAAUAGAUCACAUAAUAAGUAGAAUCUAUAACUUAAGAAUUAGAGUGUUAUUCUUGAUAGGUAAUAACACUAUCUUGUUAGAUUAUCGACACCAAUUCAUGGGGAGUCUGGAUGUAGUGGAUAGUAGGUCAUAAACUUCAGUUUCAUCUUAUUAUUAUUAUUUACAUAGGGUACUAGAAAGAAAUUGAUUUUCUUUAGUGGAAUAUUGAAUCAACUUUAGAAUUGGAUUCUAAGGGAACCAGUACUCUUAUAGAUCACAAUGGUCCUUGCUUUGAGCUCAUAUACUAUGAUACAGUUUAUAAGAGUUGGAUUGGAUCUAGGUCCACUCUUGUGCAUAAGAGAAUUUUGGUAAUUACAUAAGGUUGCAUAUGCAGUAGUGAACAAGUUCUCUAGAUUUGGUUAAUUGAUUAACUAGAUGACCCUAUGUGGUUAAUUAAUUAAUCAAGACCCAGUUUAAGUUAGAUUAAGUGACCCAGGCCCUAUUCGGAUCAAGACACUUAAAUCCAGUAGGAGAACCCUAUAAAUACUAUUGAAAUUGAGCCCUAAAAGCAAGACAUGAUGUAACAAAGUCAAACUUGACUCUCCCCUUGUUAUCCUUUUAUGUAUUGACAUUGAUUUGAGCAUUCAACUCAUAUCUCUUACAUUAUCAUGACUUAGGUGCAUUGGGAGUUGCAAAGAGGAGACAAGUCAUGGGCUCCUUGUAAGUAGAUAAAAUGUCCAUAUUCAGUUUAUGGACUUGGGCAAUACAAUAAAGAUUGUAAUGCACUACCUCCUAAUUGGAAGGAUGGUUUGUCUUGAUCAUAGAGAUAGAUUUCCCAUGGUGGGUGGACUAGUGUAUGUGAUACACAUUAGACAAGACCUACAUUAAAUCACAACAUAAGACUAUUAGUUGUUAUGAUUCACUAAGAUAUUGUACUAUAGGAACUCUCAAUCUUGAGAGGAUAUUAAGCUUGUAGUAAUAUUAACAAAAGACUUUGACUUAUGGGUAAGACCCUAAAGUGGUCAUAUAUCCCUAAGGAUUAGGUUACUGUUGAUGGAGGUUGGUGGCAAUAAUAUUCUCAAUAGAGGGACCAUGAUAUCUCAUGGGUUUGAGACAAUAUGUCUCCUUAGAUUAUCCAAAGGACACGUGAUAAUGAAAUUUAUGGUCGUAAUAAUUCCUUUAGUUGAAUUUCACAUACACUUCUUAGAGUUAGGGUAUGAUAGUUAAUCUUUUAAUAAGUGGGAUUUGUAACUCAAUGAUUGGAGAUGUAAUCGUGAUAGGUGAUAACACUACCUUGUUAGAUUACGAACACUAGUUCAUGAUGAGCUUUCAUAUAGAAAAUUGUAGGUCACGGACCUAAGCUCCAUCUCAUUGUUAUUUAAAUAGGGUACUGGAGUGUAGUUGAUUUUCUAUAGUAGGAUAUUGAAUCAACUUUAUAAUUGGAUUCUAAGGGAGCUAGUACACUUACGAGUCUUAUUAGUCCUCGCUUUGAGCUCAUAUACCAUGUUAGCAUGGUUUAUGAGGGUUGGAUUGAUUCUAUGUUCACUCUUGUGCAUAAGGGCAUUUUGGUAAUUGCAUAAGAUUGAAUAGGGGUUAGUGGACAAGGUCUCUAGAUUGAGCUAAUUGAUUGAUUAGAUGGACUUAUGUUGUUAAUUAAUCAAUUAUGACCCGUUUUAGCCUAGAUUAAGUAACUUAGGACUAUAUGGGCUCAAGUCACUUAAGCCCAAUAAGGAAACCCUAUAAAUGCCUCUUCAAGGGCCAGUUAGGGUUUCCAUGACUUUAGACAAUUAUCUUCCAUCUCCAAAGAGAGAGAGAGAAAGAGAGGGAGAGAGUCUAGAUUCCCACCCUUGCAAAGCUCACACUUUGGAGUGUUAAGAUCAUGGUUUGAGUAGUCCAAAUCUAGGAACAUCCAAACUAUUUGGGCACAUUUUUCACCAAGAGAAAUUGAUCUAGGGCAUCCAGAUCUAGAUCUAUGUAUGAGUCUCUCAAUCUCUAACUAUUUAUUUUGUAAUGAUUUUUGAAGCCAUUAUUUUUAUGCACUAGAUUUAGAGAACCUAGGGUUAAAUGCAUGCACCCCACGAGAUCUAAGGCAUAGGAACAAAGUAAUCCAAGGUUCCUAAGAAAUACCCCCUUAGAGGUUAGGGUUUCUAAGGUUUUCAAUUGUCUUCAAGAUCUAGAAAGUGUAAGAGAGAGAGCUUAGGAAUCCUCCAUUCCAAAGUCCACUCUUUAGAGGUCUAAAAUCGUGGUUCGAGUAAUCGAGCAUAAGAUCUUGGAUGUAAGAGACCUCCAAACUCUUCAGGUUUCUUUUUUACCCAUGAAAUUGAUUUGGGAACAUCCAGAUCUAGAUAUGAAUGUUUCUUUUCUAGUUUUAUUAAUCUAAAUUGUUUUAAAAAUCAUGUUUCAACUCAAAUUAGUUUCUAUAGAAGCUUAGGGUAGAUUUACAUGUACCUAUACAAUCUAAGAUAUGGGAAUGGAGUGAUCCAAGGUUCUCAAUAGACACACUAUCUCACUCUCAUGAGAUAUCAUGGUGCUUCUAUUAAUAAUAUUUUUUGCUAGCUGCUCCAUAUGGAUAUAUGACCACAUUAGGGUCUCACCCAUAAAUCAAAGUUUCUUGUUGAUUUUAGCAUAAAUUCAAUAUAUUCUCAAGAUUGAGAGUCUAUAUAUCAAGUAGCUUUGUGAAUCAUGACAACUAAUAGCCUUAUGUCAUGAUUCACUAUAGGUCUUGUCCAAUAUGUAACCAUACACACUAAUGUACUCACCAUGGGAAACCUAUCUCGAUGGUCAUGAUAAGCCAUCCCUCCAAUUAGGAGGUAGUGCAUUAUAGUCUCUAUUGAAUUGCCCAAAUCUAUGAACCAACUAUAAACAACUAAUCAUCUUGCAAGGAACCCAUGACUUAUGUCCUUUAUGCAAUUCCUAAUACAUUGAAGUCAUAUACAAUGCAAGUGAAAUGACAUGUUUGUUCAGGUAACCAAUCAAUACAAAAUGGGAUAGUAAGUUGAAUAAAAAACAUAAAUAAAUAAAUUUAUUAAUGAAUCUAAAACUGUUAUAUCAUGUCAUGCUUUCCAAGGCUCUAUCCCAAUACGUUGGAUUAGGUGACCUGAAUCUAGUUUAAGCUUAAGUCACUUAAACCCAUAAGAAACCCUAUAUAAAUCCUCUCAAAGGUUUAGGGUUCACAAUUUUAACGUUUUGGCCAUCAUUUUCGAGAGAGAGUAAGAGUAAGCCCUAGCCACUCUUAAGACAAGAAGAGAAGCUCACCCUUCUGUUGUGUUAGGAUCUUUGAAGGGAGAAAUCGGAUAAAAGAUCUUUGGGUAGAUGAACUCCACAACAUCCCCAACAUCUUCUUUGACAUCUUCCUGGGAUUAGAUUCGAUUUUGGAAUAUCCAAAUUACAGGUAUGAAACUUUAACCUCUACGUCUAGAUCAUAAUAUGGUUUUAGUUACCACAUAUUUCUACUAUGUUAGAUGUAGAGAGCCUAGGACUAGAUUGCAUGGACCCUACAUGAUGCAGAGCCUAGGAAUAGAGUAACUAGUGGUUCCUAACAAUUUACAAUUAUAAAAUGAUGAAAACUAAUGUCUUUUCACCAACUAAACCUUAUAAAGCAUUGAAAUCAUUAGUUUCAUUGCAAUUUCAAGUUAAAUAUUAAAAUGCACUAAGUAUGAGUCUCACACACAAAAUGAUCCCUAAUGCUCAUUAAUAUAUGUAUAUAUAUAUUUUAUUUUUAAAAAGUCAAAAGGAUAAUGAAGAUGAUAACAAACCAAUAAUCAAAGCAAACAUUUGAUAAUGAAUAAAUAUGUUAUGUUUAGUGUCAAAAUAAAAUAAACGCUAAAUUUUCUAAUAAAAGAAUUUGAUAAUAGGUUGUGACUACAAGCUAGAUAUCAAUUUCAUAUUGAUACAAAAACAGAGCUUAAACCAAUUUGAAAAACAAGCAUAAAAUCAACAUGUAUCAAAUCGAAAUCAACAUGUAUUUCAAUAAAUUAUAAAAAAAAUCAAUACAACACUAACAAUGGUAAUGUUAUUCUUUGGGAUAAAUUAAUAUAAAAAUAAUAAAGGCUCUAAGGUAUCAAAAUAUCAUUAAUGAAUACAAAAUCUAAUUCAACCAAUUUUAGGCAUUCUCAUAUGAAUUUAGAAGUAUAAAAUGAUGAAAACUAAUGCAUUUUCACAAGCUAAACCUCAUAAAAGCAUUGAAACCAUUAGUUUCAUUGUAAUUUCAAACUAAAGAUCAAAAUGCACCAAAUAUGGGUCUCUCACACAAAAUGAUUCCUAAUGCUCAUUAAUCUAACAUAUAUAUAUAUAUAUAUAUAUAUAUAUUCAUAUAAGAUGAAAACAAAUAGAAUUCAACAAUUUUUAAAGGGCUAAUUUUUUUUAAAAAAUGAUAAUAUAUUGAAUGAAAGCAUGGAGUGUAGUUGGGGAGGCUUCAAGACUUGUUCAUAGCUUUGAUCUUUCUCUUUGAUCUCCAGUUUGACAAAGUUUCACCUCCUUUUAUUUCCAUAGAAUCGUCUCAUUUGAAAAUGUAGCUUUCUCUUUGUAUUUAUUGCUAAAAGGAUGAUGAUAAACCAAUAAUCAAAGUUAACUUUUAAUAAUGAAGUAAUAUACUAGGUUCAAUGUCAAAAUCAAAUCAACACCAAAUUCUCUAAUAAAGGAAUUUGAUAAUAAGUUGUGACUGCAAACCACAUAUAAAUUUCAUUUUGAUACAAAAACUGAGGUUGGACUAAUUCGAUAAACAAACAAAAAAUAGGUGGUUCAAGAAUUGAUUUGAAAUUAAUACUUGAUUAAAUACAACUACCCAAAUUGAUACUACUCUACAACAUAGAACCAAUGUUGAUCCCAAUAUGAUAACAAGAUCUAUGCACCAUGAAAAAUCAACAAAAAAAAAUUACCAUAGACUUGCAUUGAAUCCAAAUCAACACUAAUUUCAAUGAAGUAUUAAAAAAUCAAUACAAUACAAACAAUGGAAACAUCAUUCUUUGGGAUGCAUGAAUACAAAAACAAUUAAGACUUUGAUAUAUCAAAAUGUUAUUAAUGCUUUAGUAAAAAAAUCUAAUUCAACAAGUUUUAUCAAUUUCCAUUUGAAUUUACAAGUAUAAAAUGAUGGAAACUAAUGCAUUUUCAAUAGCUAAACCUCAUAAAAGCAUUAUGUAGACUUUCCUUUUUGUCCUCAUAACACAUGCUUUUAAUUGUACUUAGUACCCCUCAUUUUUUAGCAAUUUAAAUUUUUUUUUUUGGUUAUAAAUUAUAUGAAUGUUUUAACACUUGGAGAAAUUGGAACGAAGCAAAAUAUGUAGAAAAAAGAAAUAAUUAUCUAUAGCUAUCUUUAUUUUAUUUUUUAUACGUUUCUAUUGACAUGGAAUAAAUCAUCAAUAAUUGUUGUGAUUAAUAGCGUUGAGAAAAGUCAAUGGCCAUAAUAAUAUUCUAUUGCCAUUUUUUUUUUUGUAAAAUAUUAGAUCAAAUCACAUCUUCUUGUAAAAUUAUCAUUAAGAUUUACAUGAUUUCUUACAACGUAGCUUAAAACCAAAUAUUUCAUCAAAGAAGUUAUCAAUAACCAACCCCACACAAUGAUAUCUAUUAUAAUACAAACUUCUUCAAUAUGUUUGUUUGUGAGUGUAAAGAAAGAAAGGUAACAGAAAUUGAGAAAGUAAAAUAAAAGAAAAUUUUUCUCUUUUUUUGUUUUAUUUUUUUUUUCUCUAUUUAUUCUGCUAUUUACAGAGUAAUAUAUAAAGUAAACCUAACUAACAAAUUCUCUAACUAUUCAUCUAACAAUAAUAGAAGAAAACCAAUGAGCAUAUGACAUGUGUACAUCUUGUAACUAUAUGAAACUAUCUCUUAACAUUCUCCCUCAAACUUAAGGUAGAAAGAUUUUCUACUUUGAGUUUGUUUCUUAGAUUUACAAACUAAGUGCUUAAGACAGCUUUCAUCAAGACAUCUACUACUUGAUCAAUGGAAGGCACUUGUUAGAUUAAAACCUUUCUUUGCAGAACCUUUUCCCUAACAAAAUAUAAAUCCAAUUCAAUGUGUUUUGUCCUAGCAUGUAAUAUUAGAUUAACAACCAACAUAAUAGUGCUAAGAUUAUCACACCAAAUAACUGUUGUUGUAGGCAAAGUGAUUUUAAUUUAUGAGAGAAGAGAUAGUAACCAAGUGAUUUCUGCAACCAAACCAGUUAGGCUUCUAUACUCUGCUUUUGUACUUGAUCUAAAAAUAGUAUGUUAUUUCUUUUACUGCUAAGUGACUAAAUUUGAACGAAAAUAUACAAAAAAUCCUAAAGUUGAUCUUGAGUCAUAAAGAUCAGAGGCCUAAUCGACAUCACAAAAUGCUACAAGAUCAAGAGUAGGAGACUUUCUUAAAUAUAAUCCAUGAUGAAGAGUUCCUUCAAGUAUCUAAGAAUUAUUUUGACUACUUUCUAAUGAGAUUCUAAUGGAGCUUGCAUAUAUUGACAAACUUUAUUAACACUAUAGGCAAUUUCAGGCCUAGUAAUUAUUAUCUACUACAAAGCUCCUACAAUUGAUCUGUACAACUUCACAUCCUAAAUUGAUUCACUUCCAUAGCCUGAAAGUUUUUGUCAAUUGGUCAUGGGAGUAGAAAUAGGAUUGGCACUUUGCAUUUUGGAUUUGUAUAAUAGAUCAAUUAUGUAUUUUCCUUGAGAGAUGAAUGCUUUCAACAAUAUGCUUCACUUCAAUCCCUAAAAAUAGUUGAUUUCUCCAAGAUCUUUUAAGGCAAACUCUCUGUUUAAAUUGGUAAUGAGAUGCAUCACAGCUUGUUCACUACUACUAGUGAUAAGAAUGUCAUCUACAUACACAAGAAUAUAGGUAGAAUGAAUUUUUGUCACACAAAUGAAUAGAGAUUGAUCUGACUUUGUAGAGAUAAAUCCAAAGGAAUAUAGGGCUACACUUAACUUUUCAACCAAACACUUGGUGCCUGUUUUAAGUCAUAUAAAGUUUUAUGUAAUUUGAAAACAAGAUGAGAUUGGUUGUGCUGAAUAAAUCUAGGAGGUUGUUCCAUAAAAACUUCCUCAUGCAACACUCCAUUCAAAAGGAAUUAUUAAUGUCUAAUUGAUGAAUUAACCAAGCUCUAGACAAAGCUAUAGUAAGCAUAACCCGAAUAGUUGCAGGUUUAACAAUUGGAUUAAAAGUUUCAUUGAAAUCAAAACCAACAACUUGAUGAAACUCUUUUGCAUAUAUGUUUAACAAUCAGAUCUAGUUCUCUUGCUCUAUUUAAAUCCCUGGCAUUUAGCGCCUCCUUGUCAUCUCUCUUUGUCGCAAAUUUCUCUUCUCAGGAUAAGCCCAAUCAUGAUCACCCAAUUUGUUCUCAUUGUGGGCUCAUGGGGCAUAUUGUGGACCAUUGCUACAAGUUACAUUGGUGCCCAACUGGGUACAAGCCUAAACCCAAGGCCCAAAUGAGCUCUCUUCGGUCCACCAACAAUCCAUUAUCUUUCCCUGAGCCAUCAAAGGACAUCCACUUCUCUUCUUCAGCUACAACUACCAUACCACCCUCUCCACUUUCUGGUUCUCUCUCAACAGAUCAAGUUCAAUAGCUCAUAAAGUAGACUUUGUUCACUUUGGAAGGAUCCUUUGUCAUGCUCAAAUCUUAUUAUGCGCAUGCAUUGUUUAACUAAGAUCAUUAUAAUUGUUUCCCAAAGUGAGUCAAUGCCAAAUAUUGAAUAAUUGGUUAAGCAUAACUCUUACACACAUUCUAAAAUUUAUGCUCUUAAAUGUAUGUGACUCACUUGCGACAUUUGGAAAUACCCCUAAAAUGGAUACAAAAGCAACGAUGAAUGAAAAAAAUCACAAUGUACAAUGGCUCUAUUUUCAAAAGAAAAAAAAAUCAAUAUUGAUCAUAGUGUACAAUGGCUCUACUUUCAAAAGAAAAAGAAAAUAAAAAGGAAUAUGAUAUCAAAUUAAGGGAAAGUCAAGUUGUGUUGUAUAUAGAUCAACAAGACCUUGUUAAAUGGAAAUCCAACAAUCUUAAAUCAAAUUAAUUAGAUGUGUACUUUAAUUAGAACAAAUGCAUGACUAGAUCUCUUCUAAGUGAUCAAAUUUUAAAUGUAGAACUGGACAAUAAGUUGUAUUCCCUUGAACAUCAAUACUUAUGUUUCUAUGUUGGUCCUCUUAUCCACUAAUGGUUAUGCAUUGGGUUUCAAAACUAAAAUUACAAUUAACUUUGACCUUUGGACUUGAAACCUCAUUCUUGAUGGAUUGAUGUAUAAUAUCUAAAGUAAUUUUGUAAUUGAUUGAAGAAACUCCUACAAGACAUUUAAAGAAAUCUAGUACACCAUUUCUUAUUUAUCACUUUUUUGAGUUGUUUCAAGCACUCUAAGUUUCUGGUUCUUUGUCAUUUGAGGUCAAUUCUCUUAGUUUUUCGCAUUUUUUUCAUAUAGUAUUGUUUUACCCUCAUUUUUAGUAUUCCUAGUUGUUUAGGGGUUUUUUUUUUGUUUUUUUGUUUUUGGAUUUUUAUCUAUUUUUCUUUCUUUUAAUGUCCUUUUAUAUUUCAUCACCUUGUUAUGGCAAGUCAUCCUCAUCCUCAUGAGCUGACCCCUCCAAGGUCACCUGAGGCCGUUUAGAGCAUUGCUCUCCAAGGUCCUUUUGGCCUAAGAGCUCUUUCUAUUGAGUGCUUCCAUUGUCAGGAGGCAUGAGACCGAUACUACACCUCUUUCCAUAAUUGACUAGUUGAGGUUGAGCAUUCAGUCAAUCUCAAAGUCUUCUAGGAGACUUCUUUUCUUACUGUUGUUAGAGAUUGAGGAUAAAAGACGUUACUCUCUCUUUAGGGGACUUUCUACCCCCAUCUUAUUUUCAUUUUCUAUCUGUUGUAAUUGGAGUUACCUUUCAGGUGAUUUUGUAUGAUCAACCAUUUCUUGUCUCUUCCUGUUCCAUCCAACAUGUCCUUAGCAUGCUGCAACUUGAGUCUUGCUUUGGUCAGAAGCUAUUCUCCAAGCCAACAUGGUUGCUAGCUACUUCUACCAUUCUACUCAUCGUACCCAGAUCUGUCAGUCGUUUACUCAAUUCAUUCAUGCCAUACUCUCUGGCUACCAAUUCGAUAUCAACCAAGUGGUUUUGGAUAGCAUUACUCCUUCCCGUGAUCCAUCUUUUUGAGGAGGCACCCCUCCCUUUAACCUUCUCAUCUCGUAGAUUUUGGAGGAUGUAGGUUUUGGGAUAAACCUUGCAUUAGGGGUCCAAGCUAACCAUGCCCUCUUGGAUGGAUGCUCCUAGGCUAAGCAUUAUAACCACAUUUAGGGACUGAUGGCACCUCCAACCCACCAUGGUCCUGAAAAUGCGGCUCAACAAGCAGCUUAGGAGGCAACAACAUAUGAGAAUGAGCUCCAAGCUAUGAAGCAAGGUGUAGUACCUGAGGUAAAUUAUCUCAAGCCUUCUUUAAGAACUUGUUCUAGUUGAGGUCAUGCAAGUUCUUCAUGAGCUACUCAUGAGCAAUGUUAGAAAUGCCACAAAAUGUCAGUGAUAUUUCACCAAUAUUUCGGGUAUCGAUGGGGCUCGAUAGAUAAAUAGGAUGGAAAUUUUGGUUAUUAAAAAUUUCAAUUAUUUCCCUCAUUUUUCAUUGAUAUAUUGGCUAUAUGCUGAUAUAAUACCGAUAUAUCAGUUAUAUUGGUGAUUUUUUAGUGCCUUGCUUACUUUUAGGCCAAAAGGUUUCCCCAUUUUUACCAAAAGGUUUCUCGUUUUUGCCAAAAUGUUUCUUUUAUUUAUUUUUAUUUUAGGCCACAUUCUCACACACACGACCAUACAAUAGUCGUUCCAGAUGAGAAAGUCACCAUCUAUUAAAUAGGCAAUUUUGUUCUCUUAAGUUGUUGAUGUGGGACAACUUUUAUUGACAAGUUUAAAAAUCUAAUCAAACAGGUAAACAAAAUUUACAUUGGUGAGACUCAAACCCGAGUACACAAGUUUGUCGUGAAAGGACACUAGCAUUGAACCAUAUGUGAAUUUGUAGUUUUAAUUGUAUAUAGAAUUAUAUAUAUAAUGUACAUAUCUUUUAUACGUUAUAAUAUUUUUAAUAUAUAUUAUAAUAUUAUUUAAUAAAUUAAACUAUUAUAAAUAAGUUAUUUUUAAUUAUCUUAUUAUAUAUUUUGUAUACCAAUUAAAUACAAGGUAAAUAUCAAUUUUAUAAAUAAAAUAUUAACAUUUUUAAUAUAAAAUACUUAUCUAAAUAUCAUUGUUUUUUUUUUUAUCCCUCAAUAUAUUCAAUUUAGACAUAUUAUCAUUCUAAUAUUAAUGUGCUUUUAAAUUAGUAUAUUAUUGCCUACUAUUACAAAUUUAUUACAUAUUACUAUAUAUAUAUAGUAAUAUGUGUUUUUUUUUCAUGUUUUAUCAUUUUUUUUUUGAAGUUUCCAAGUAUUUUCAUGAAUUUCUGUUUCAUCAAUUUUUUUUUUUUGGGUCAAAAUAUUCCACCGUUAUUCCCUGAUAUAUCUAUAAAAUCCAAUGAUCAAUAAAUCCGUGAUUACUGAUAUUUUCAUUCUUGCUCAUGAGACAUCUUCUUCUACCCACCCACCUGAGAGACAUUCGAUUCCAUGGCCUAUCUCCAGCAACCAAUGGACUCCCAGGAUCUUUAGCUUCAUCAGAUCCAGGGACAACUCCACUAUAUCAUUUCCUAGAUCCACUCUAAAGGCGCAUUGAGCUCUAUGUCUCCACCUCCUUCGGAUACUUAUAUAUGUGUGUGUGUGUGUGUGUGUUCUUUUUCUAUUGUUAAUCUGGAUUUGUGUUUUUUUUGCAUAUCUUAUGUAUCCAAAAUCAUUUUUUUUCUAUAUAUAUUCUUCUUUCUCUUUAACUCUUGUGUGCUUUCCAAUGUUUAUAAUUCAUAUGUUUUGCCAUUUUUAUGACAAAAAAUAAAAAUAAAAAUCAUUGACCAUAUUUAAUUCACUUAAAUAGGGGAAGCAUAGGCAUCGAUAUAAUAGAAAAAAGAUAAAGGAACUCCUUGAAAAAUAGGAGUUAAUAAGUUUUGAAUUAUUUAUUCAAUUCAUUCUUUUACUCAUUUAAUUCUUAAGGGAAAUUGUAAUAGUGGAGAAAAUUAAACCUGAGACAUUGGAGGAAAUUAGAUCAACUAUUGAAAGCAUAACUUGGAAGUUUAAGAGAGUUACCUAAUAUAGAUAUAUCCUAUAAGAUAUUUCUAUUUGAAUUGUCUUUCAUUUUAGAACUAUUAUGAGUCACAAAAGCUUCUUCUCAUGACUUUUAUUGUCUAUUUUUUGGUUGGAGAUAGACCUCUAGGCAUCAUAGUUGAUCUAUUGUGUCUUAUCCAGCUUCUAUUAUGUUAUGUUGAUUUGUAUACAUUUAGAUUCCUUUCGAGCUUUACUUUGUACCUUGUUAUCACUAUAGGGAUAUGUUUCUCUUACAUGCUUUCACAAUGUAUCGAGCAAAAUCUCCAACUAUCAUGUUCUAUUGCUUUGAUCAUAUCUUAUCUCACACAUUUUUCCACCUUUGUUGAAGUUUUUUUUUUGUGUGUAGGUUAUAGGAUUGGAAAAUAAGUACUACUAGAUGAUUCAAAACAUUCCCUUAGUUUAUUUUUAAUUAAGCAUUAAUGUUUGUUAUGUAAACUCCGUUAUAAGAGUUCGGGUGGGUUUAUGUAAUGAUGUUUUGUCACAAGAUUGCCAUAAAGGGAAAUUGUUAGGACAUUAAGCCUUGAUUAUAUGUCGUCAAUUUGGUUCCUUUUUAUAUUUGGCCAUAGAAGUCUUUUUAGAUAGUGACUUGCUCUCUAUUGAAGAUUAAGAGUUGUAAUUUGUCUAACCGAGAAUUCAUAAGUACAUCUAAAAAAGUUUGGCUUGUAGUAAGUUAGGCUUCUUUGAGGUAUAAAUAUGAUUGCUAAUUGUUUUGAACUUAAAAUUAAUUUUUAUAAAGUUUUUUAAAAAUAGAGGAUGCUCAAGUGGGGAGCAGUGCUUAAGUGUUGUGACCGCUCAAGUGCCCCACAUUGCUUGAGCUCCCAAAACGCUCAAGCCACCUUUGUAAGCUCGAGAAAUCGUGAAUCUCUAGUCGAGAUUUUUUCACGCAAAAUUGAUUUGGAAGUCUUCUAAAACCAAACCUUUUGGAGAUUUAUUCCUACAAAUACCUCUUUAUAACCCUUUAAGGGUUAUAGAUUGUUUUAGAGAUUAGUGAGAGAUCUUACAUUCUUUAGAGAGAGUCUCUUAGAGAAAAAGCCUAAUGAGCCACACCAUUCCCGAUCUCUCAUUCAAGGAUUCAAUAUUUGAAUCUUGGUUUGAAAACUUACAUCCCUUUAGCAAGGUUGAAAUGCAUUCAUUAGAGUAAUAGGAGGUUGCUACGUUGCAGACAUGGAUCAAGUUUUAAGUAUUGAAGAGUAAGUCUUUAGGGUAAAGUGGCCAAGUAAAUCUAUGUAACUUGAUAUCAUAUAAUGGAUUUAGAUUAGCGAUCAUAGACUUCAUGGUUUUUUAUCUCCACAGUUAGUGUGGGGGUUUUCCAUGUAAAAAAUCUCUUGUACCUCAUUGUUUAUUACUUGAUAUCUUGUUUGAAUUGCCUAUAAUAGAAAUGAUUGAUAUACCUCAAUAUAUCGUAGGAUAAAAAUUGGGUAUAACAUAUAAACUUUAUUUAAAUUUUUUAAUACAUCCAUUUAGCCCUCCUCCCCUAGGUAUUUCCCCACUAGACUUAGGGGCUUUUUCAAACCAUAAGUUAGUUCACCCUGAGCUAUUGGUUUAUGUUGUUGACCAUCAUUAGUUGAUUCAUUUUUUUUAUUGCACUUGUUAGUCGAUUAAUAUAUAUAUAUAUAUUGUUUUCUCAUACCUAACUUUGGUUUCUUGUGAUUCUUCCACCUAAAACCUACCAAUUAUUUUACAUCAUAAACCAGAGUUUCACCACUUGUUUUGUAUUCUAACCUUAACAAUUCAUCUUCUUUAAAAGUAACAUCUCUACUGAUUUUUGCCUUCCUCAAAUUUAGAUGCUACAACUUAUACCCCUUCACUUUAGUAGGAUGUACAAGAAUUAAACAUUUCUUUCUUUGCUCUUGGUUGCAACUUUUUAUCAUUUACAUGUGCAUAUGUUGUUGACCCAAACACUAUAAGGUGUUGGUAACUUCCUGGUUUACCUGUCCAUAUUUUUUGAGGCGUUUUGAACUUUAUGGAACUCGAAGGGAAUUUGUUAAGCAAGUGACAUGUUGUAUGGAUAGCUUUCGCCUAUAACUUUUUAGGUUAUUUUAUAUUUAUCAACAUGCAUCUUACUCUUUCAAGAAUAGUAUGAUUCAUCCUUUUAGCCAAGCCAUUUUGCUGAGAUGUACUCUUCACUGUUCUUGUUGGGAUUAAGCCCCUAAAGGAAAGACAUGAUGUAACAAAGUUAGAUUUAACUAUCCUCUUGCCAUCCAUUUGGUGUAUUGACAUUAAUUUGAGCAUUUAACUCAUAUCUCUUACAUUAUUAUAUGACUUGGGUGCAUUAGGAGUUGCACACAAGAUACAAGUCAUGAGUUCCUCAUAAGUACAUAAGUUGUCCACAAUUGGUUAAUGGAUUUGGUCAAUCCAAUAAAUAUUGUAGUGCACCACCUCCUAAUUGAAGGGAUGACUUAUCUUGGCCAUUGGGAUGAGUUUCCCAUGAUGAGUGCAUUAGUUUAUGUGAUACAUAUUGGACUAGAUCUAUGGUGAAUCAUGAUGUAAGGCUAUCAAAUGUCAUGAUUCACCAAGCUAUUAUGAUGCAUGGACUCUCAACCUAGAGAGGAUAUUGAGCCUAUGCUGAAAUCAACAGAAGGCUUUGACAUAUGGGAGAGACCCUAAAGUGGUCAUAUAUCCUUAUGGAUUAGGUCACUAUUAAUGGAGGCUAGUAACAAUAGGUAUUCUUAAUAGAGGCAUCAUGAUAUCUCAUGGGCUUGAGAUAGUGUGUCCCCUUGAGUGAUCCAAAGGACAUGUGAUCAUGAAAUUUUUGGCCACAACAAUUCCUUUAGUGAAAUUUGACUUAUGCUCCUUGGAGUUAAAGUUAGAGCAUGUCAGUUAAUCAUAUAAUAAGUGGGAUCUAUAACUCAAGGAUUGGAGAGGUAAUCAUGAUCGGUGAUAGCACUACCUUGUUAGAUUACGAACACCAGUUCAUGGGGAGUUUAUAUGCAAUGGAUAGUAGGAUGUCGUGGACCUGAACUUUGUCUCAUUGUUAUGUACAUGAUUCGUGCCCAAUUGGUGUCUCAGCUGAUUCGUGUCCAGCUGGUGCUCCUUGAUUGAGGGAGUAAUCAACAAAAUUUAUAACCUAUUACACCAUAUACUAGGGUAGCAAAGACAAAGCUACUAUAGUAUAGCGGCUCUAGGAUCGUUCACUGGGAAGGAUUAGCAAGCUAUCAAUGAUACCAAUUCCAAGUGAAUUGGUCUUGUUUCAUUUCAAGGUUAGCUUAAGAAAUAAAACACAAACUUUGAUUGGUAAAGAUUUAAACUAACUAACAUAACAAGUACUCGGAAUAACUUAGGAAGAAAAGCAUUCCUUGGAGAGUUAGGUUCACUGGGGUGGUUCCUCAUGCAAAAGACAUAGCUCCGGUCAGAUGGUUCCUUUCCUCGUGUUAGAGAUUCAACAUAUAGUCACUUCUCUAACCGGUGUUGUACAGCUACCUCCUUUAAUUAGAUUUCACUUUAAUUCUCUCACUGAUGCAACUUGCAAUGGUUUAAGCCUCUCACUAAGCCUUAACCAUUCAAGGUGAUCUUUAACCUUGGAUUACCCGUCAAAAGCUCGCAAGAGAUAACUAAUGGAUGUCUCCUUGGAGUCCAAAAGCUUACCAAGUGUUGGCUAUUCUAGAAAAUCCUACCCUAAAGUCACCUCCCAGAGGCUCGCAAGGGGUAAACUGGUGCAUUUCCAUGGUUGGAAAUCACUUUCCUUACCAAGUGUUGGCCCAAGUGACUCUAAGGUGUUUUAAGUUAACUAAAAACAUAGAAAUCACUAAAGGAUUUCACUUCCUCUUCAUUACUAGCUAAAACCACAAAGCUUUGCAUUCUUGCACUUGGAACCUUCCCCGGCAACCUUAGCUCCAAGGAAUUAGAGGUUUAGUUACUCAUUCUCUGGGGAAAAUUCCUCAGAGAGUUCAUAACUUAGUAAGAAAAUAAAAAUACAAAGUGAGAAGGUAAGGCAAUACAAAGAACUGAACUUUACUUGCUUACCCAAAACUUUACAAAAGGAUCUCCUCUCUAAGAACAGGCUCCCGAGAGGUAUAUAUAUGAACAUAAUAUAAAACUAAUUAUUACAUAGAUAUUUUCUCUUUUUACUAACUUAAAAGCUAAGGAAUCUUGUAAUUGGUGGCUUACAAGGAGUAUUUUGGGAUUUAGACAACAAAAAUCUGAUGUAAAAUAUUUCCCAAUGUCGGUAGCAAAUAUCGGGAUGCUCCAGGAACCAUUUCUCAAGAGAAAAUGGUGUCUGCGAGAUUUCGUAGGCACUCAAGAAGGGAUGCGAAAUCAUUUCGCAAGAACAUGCUAUCUUCGCAGGGCUGCGAAGUUGGCUUCCACCUUGAGGUUCUCAGCUCCCAGCUUGUGGCAUAUAUCGGGCAACUUCAGAAGGAAAUACACCCUACUGUACAAAAAGGCCGCGGAAUCACUUCGCAGCAAAAGGGUGAUUUCGCAACACUUUGGAAAAUGCUUCCUUCAGCUGGGAGUGAUUGGUUUGCAAAGGCUGCAACUUCUUCGUUUCAACUCCGAAUUGCGCACCAUUUGAAGAAUUGGAUUGUUGACUUCCUGAGAUUUGAAAUGGUAUAUAGCAUGCAUCAAUUUGACCUCAGAAAGUGCUCCAAAAGUGGCUGCUACGACUGUCAUCAAGAAUAUGCUUCUUGGCAGAUUCUCUUUACUUUUUCUCCUUGCAUUCCGGAUUUACUCUUGGCAAAUGACUUCCAAGCUUUGCCCAAGAUUCCUCAACACUCUCCUCAAUCUUGAAUUGCUUUGGUGAUCAAAUUACUAACAAAAACACCAAAACUUACACAAAGUGAUUAAAAUUGCUUUCAAGGGUCCUUAAUAUGCUAAUUGAGUUAAAAGGCCAAAACUACUACUCAAAAGCGUUUAAAAGGAUUAAUUAUAAGUUAUCAAAUAGCACUUUUUGAGCAGUAAUCACUCCCCCCAACCGACAUAUUGCUAGUCCCUUAGCAAUAUAGGAGAGAAAAAUGAAAAUAAAAAGCAAACUUAACCUAUAAUGUACAACAUCAUGCUGAACAAAAACAAUUCUCAAGUGGCAUGAUGAUUUAAUUCUCUCAUGAAACAUUAAAGAAAUACAAACCCAAAUUUCAACAAGAGUUAUAACAAACUAUGCUAAACACUUUCAAUCAAGGGAAUGCAUUAUGCAAACUGAAGUUUUAAAAUCAUUUCCACUUUCAAAGAACCAAACUUUAUUCUUCCUCAAAAAUCUAUGUGUAUAGGUUCCUUAGGUUCCGAGAAUAAUAUGCUAAACUAAUCUCUCCCCCCAACCUAUCUCUUUUCAACACUUAGAAAACUGACCAAAAUCAAUAAAGAAAGAACACAUUUUUUUUUUUUUUUUUUAAGGAGGCUUUAUGGGAUACUCUUUCUGAAUUGUCCAUGUAAUGGGGGUCCAUCGAUGACUCCCAACCAAUUAAGGUUUAGGGCAUCAAGCUUUAAGGAUCUUUCAACCACUAACUCCAUGGAUUUUUCCCCGGACUUUUGAGAAUGAAUUUCUAAUACCCAAGCACCUAGCAUAUGCUAACUCUACCUAUUCACCCUUAUAACGAGCAUUGAGGUCGGUGACUCCCAACCAAUUAAGGCUUAGGGCACCAGGCUUUAAAGAUUUUCACCAUAUACCCCUCAGACCUUGCUCGGGUUUUAAGGCAAGCAAACAACUUUCUUUAUUUCAAAGGCUCAUUGGCCUUUUGCAGGGUGUUUCAAUUUUAUCAAAUGAGGUCAAAUAUACCAAGUCCCAAAAUUAUCCUAAGUCAAGAGGGAAAUAGCUUUUCAUGUUAUAAUCGGAAUCUAAUGUGUACAGUGUGUGAAUAGCUUAAAGUGGAAGAACUAAAUUCAAUUUCAAUAGAAGCUUCAACAAUUGAACCACUUUAGUGAGCAUAAUCCAUACUCUAAGUCAAGUGAAAAACAACAGUUCAAUUUCUCCUGUUUCAAUUUGAAAAUUUUUCCUCAAAAUUCAUGGAGAAUAGAGUAAAAAGAGUAAAAAGCAAAAACUACAACUAAUUUACCAAAAUAAUUGCAUUACCAAAAAGGCUUAGCAUACUUCCUUUAAUUUAGCAUAACUUCCUUCAUCAUUCCCCCCCAACCGAACCGAGCAUUGUCCUCAAUGUGAUAUGAGUGACUGUAAUUAAAGGGAGGAAGUGGUACCUCCUGAGUGAUAUCAAAUUCGAAUACUAAUUGGAGAAACCACAUGUUUAAAAAAGAAUAGAAUAUGUGAGAAAAGGAAAUAAGAAUAAGUUAAUGCUAACUGUUAACAAAAAAAUAUUAAACUUGUAUUACUUUGAAUCCAUUUGAGUACACUGAAAAAGAAAAGCAAUACAAGCAAUCCCAAAUAUAGUACCAAAAUAAUGGGAUUUCUUUCAAACUAAAAAUGAAAUACAUAAAACAAAGAUAGUAGAUAUAUAUAUAAUGAUCUAAUGAGUGGGUGGUGCUGGGGCUAGGCAGAUGGGUCUGCCUCUUCAGUUGGUGCUUCAGCUGGGGCUUGAGGCUCUGAGGGAUGAGAGUGUGGAUCUGCUGGAGUAGAAGUGGAGGGCUCAACAGCUGGUGGCAGGUCGAAAUGAAGCUGAAACUGCCUUAAGAUGACAGUGUGUUGAGCCUGAGUGGCCAACAUCUGCUCUUGGCAUGCUCUAAUGGCUGCCAUCUCUUGAGCUAGACUGCUCUGAGAUGUUGUGAGGGUCUCCAAUGCACGGCACAACUCUCGAUAUUCAGAAAUGGGUAUGGCCAUCCUCGGCUCAGCUGAAAUGGAUGGCUGAGAUGAAGCUGGAGCAGCUGGUGGAGCUCUGGGAAUGGCAGGAGCAGCAACUGUGAUACCCUCAGGUAUGUGUCGUGGGGAUGCUCUCCUUGUAGUUGGCUGAGGACGCUCAGGCUGGUCAACUCUAUAAGCUGUCAUGUUGUUCCAUUUGUCGAGAGUAAAAAGCUCACGACAAAUGCGCUUUCGCUCCAACUGAGGCUCAGAAGGAUAUCCCAAGUGCUCCAGAAUUUGGCAUAGCAGCCUUGGAAAGAGGAGGGGAAUGCAAUCAGCUCUCUGAAGCUUCUUUUUGUGUACAUUAUCUUCGAAAUAGAGAAGGACUGCCAGAAUCAGAUGAUGAGGCCCAAAGAAAAAUCCUUCAGACAUCUUGUAUAGGGCUUCUAAGAGGACUCCUCUUCUUUGAGUCCAAUGCUGCAAUGGGUAGAGGUUAUGACGCAAAAAUGCAUCAAUCAAAAACAUGAUUGGAGGAAGCUCCCCCCUCAACAGAUGUGAUCGAUUGGCAGCUCCUCUGGAUAGGGUGCGCACCAUCUCCAGCUCAGUAGGAUUGGUCCAAGCUCUAAAAUUAUCGAAUUGGGUUGGCUCAUAGGGAAUUUGCAAGGCUUCAGCUAUAUGGCGUGCUCCCAAUAUGCCAUGCCUCCCAUCAAUAGUGAAAUGAAUUAAAGUUGGAUCCCUGACCUGGUUAGUUGUCAUGGAUUGAUAGAAAUCCAUGGCUACCCUUGGGUAGAAAAAGUCUCUUGGAGUCAGUAGGUGCUCCAUAUGGUAUCUCCUCAGCAGGUUGAAUGUCUGUGCAAGCUCCGGCUGCAAUCGGAAUGCGGCUAUGUCAAAGCAUAGCUCAGAGUGGAAUGGCCGAGCUCUACAGUCCAAAUUUCCCUCAAUUGGGGGCUGAGUUAGCAUUGGCCUCUUGAUUAUUUCUUCCGGAGCUAUUUCGGAUUGAAUUUGGGGCUCUGGAAGUGGCGGCUAAGGCUCCUGAGAUUUCGCUUGCGGCGCCAGAAAUGGCACCGGCGACGGAACUGGCGAGGAUACCGGAGAUGGAACUGGAGUUGGAACCGGUGAUGGCUCUGGAGAUUGCUCCGUCUAGUCGAUGGGUUCUGAGCUUUCAACCCUGGGUCUCUUUUGCAGUGGCCGACCCCCUGACCUGGUAAGGUAACGUCUCGCCAGAGGCUUUGGCGGCGCUGGCUUCACCGGAGGAGGAGUUGCUUUCAGCUGCGAAGGCUCAGAAACGGGAUCCGGGACUGGCUCCUUUCGCAAGCUUCUCUUGCGGCUUGAAGGGGAGGAAGACUUGGCCCCUCUGGUUUGCGCCAUUUCGGGUUACCGAAAUUUGGCCAGAGCGGAUGGUCGGAGAAGAUGAUCGGAGGCUUGCGCGGUGAGGCUUGAGGAAGGAGAUGGACGGUCUGCGAGAAUGGACGGUAUAAUUUUGAAACCCUUUUCGCAGCUCAAAUGACCGGUAUAAAUAGGAAUAACGGAAGACUAAGGGUCAGUUUGAGUUUCGCAGUAAAAUGCCAUUUUCGCAGCUACUUCGCAAUGCGUUUCGCAGCUGCGAAAUUAAUGUUACUGUGCUGCGAAGUGGCACACGUGUGUCAAAAUCUCCUUCGCAAUUGCGAAAUACCCUGCGGAAUGGGACUUUUGUUGCGAAAUCUGGGCUUUACCACUUCGCAAGUCGUUUCGCAGCUGCGAAAUGGGGGCUCCUGUGCUGCGAAGUGGCACUCGUGUGCCAAACUUGCCUUCGCAGCUGCGAAAAUUCUCGCAGAGAAUCCCAAAGUGUUGCAGAAUGAUUUGGCAACAAAAUGCUCAUUUCGCAAAAGUUUUCUUUAGGCUGCGAAAUCUCGCAGAGCUCUGUUUUUGCUCUGUUUCACUCUGUUUUUGCUCCGAUUUCGAUCCGAUUUUUUCUCUUUCAAUUUCCUUGAAAUUUCUUCCACCUGAGAUCAUUUAAAAAGAUUAAAACACACCUAAAAACAUGAUUUAAGAUCAAAAACUAAGAUCAAAUGUAUGGAAAAAAACUUGAAAAUUUACAAAAUUUACAAAAAUUUUGGACUGUGGUAAACCAUGUCUAGCAAACCCUUCUUUGCUUAGGCUUUUUGAGGCUCAAGGAGGUUGAUAUCCUCCUUUUCUAGUUUGAAUGGCUCCAUUAAUGGCUUGAGACGAUAUCCAUUGACUUUGAAGGUGUCCUUGCCAUUUGAAUUCAAUAAUUCCACAUCUCCAUUGGAACAUACUCGGUGAAUUAUGAACGGGCCUAUCCACCUUGACUUGAGCUUCCCAGGAAAGAUAUGGAGUCUUGUGUCAUACAGUAAAACUCUUUACCCUUCCUGAAAUUCCUUAUUGGAGUUUAGUUGAUCAUGCCACUUCUUCAUCCUCUGUUUUGCAACUUUGGAAUUGAUAUAGACAUUAUUUCUUAAUUCCUCCAUCUCAUUAAGGUCUAGAUAUAUUUUUUCUCCGGCUCUGAUCAAGUCCAUGUUCAGCUUCUUUAUUGCCCACCAAGCUUUGUAUUCAACUUCCACAGGGAGAUGGCACGCUUUGCCAUAGACAAGACGAUAGGGAGACAUGCCAAGAAUAGUCUUAUAAGCUGUUCUAUAUGACCACAAUGAAUCAUGAAGCUUAAUAGACCAAUCUUUUCUGCUGGAAUUCACCACUUUCAUCAAUAUGUUCUUUAUUUACCUCUUAGCUAGCUCAACUUGCCCGGAAGUCUGAGGAUGAUAAGGUGUAGCCACCUUAUGCUUCACUCCAUACUUGGAUAACAGAGCUUCAAAAGGUUUGUUGCAAAAAUGAGCACCUCCAUCACUGAUUAUGGCUUUGGGUACCCCAAAUCUCGAAAAAAUGUUCUCUUUAAGGAAUUUGAGAACCACCCUGUGAUCAUUUUGUUUACAAGGGAUUGCCUCAACCCAUUUAGAAACAUAAUCCACCCCCACCAAGAUGUAAGAAUUACCAAAAGACAUUGGGAAAGGUCCCAUGAAGUCAAUACCCCAUACAUCAAAUAGCUCAACUAUUAGAAUGGGGUUCAUAAGCAUUUGAUUUAUUUUUGUUAACUUUCCAAGCCGUUGGCAUCUGUCACAACUUCUACACAUGAUGUAGGCAUCUUUGAAAAGAGAUGGCCAAAUAAACCCUGAUUGCAAUACUUUCAUGGCUGUUUUCUGAGAGGCAAAGUGGCCUCCACAUGCAUUCUCAUGACAAUGAUAUAGAAUCCCUUGCUGCUCAUCUUCAGGGACACACUUCCUUAUGAUCUGAUCUGCACAAUACUUAAAAAGAAAGGGCUCUUCCCAAUAAUAAGCAUGAAUUUUGGCAAAGAAGUGCUUCCUGUCCUGUGCAUUCCACUCACUUGGAAUUUCUCCAGUUACUAAAUAAUUAGCAAUAUGAGCAUACCAAGGAGUUUUCACUAGGAACAUGAGUGAUUUUUCAGGAAAAUCAUCAUUAAUAGGCAAGGGAUGGGAAUUAUGUGCUAUAACUAACCUUGAAAGGUGGUCAGCUACCACAUUCUCCACUCCUUUCUUAUCUUUGAUUUGAAGAUCGAAUUCUUGUAACAAAAGAAUCCAUCUAAUCAACCUUGCUUUUGCAUCUUGCUUUGUCAAUAAAUACUUCAAGGCUGAAUGGUCAGUGAAGACAAUGAUGAAAGACCCCACUAAAUAAGCACGAAAUUUGUCCAAAGCAAAUACCACAGCUAACAAUUCUUUCUCUGUAGUUGUGUAGUUCCUUUGAGCUUCAUUCAGUGUUUUGCUUGCAUAGUAAAUCACAUAGGGCUUCCCAUCUUCCCUUUGGCCAAGCACAACUCCUAUAGCAAAGUCACUGGCAUCACACAUCAGUUCAAAAGGUAAUUGCCAGUUAGGGGCUCUCACUAUUGGAGUUGUUGUUAAAAAUUUCUUCAGUUGAUCAAAGCUGUUUUGACAUCUUUCAUCCCAUAUAAACUUAGCAUCCUUAGCUAACAGCUCACAAAGAGGUUUUGAAAGACUUGAAAAACCUUUUAUAAACCGCCUAUAGAACCCUACAUGGCCAAGGAACUGUCUUACUCCUUUCACAGUUGUUGGGGAUGGUAAUUUGACAAUAAGCUCCACCUUUGCUUUAUCAACUUCAAUGCCUUUUUCAGAGAUGAUAUGGCCAAGGACAAUUCCUUGACGUACCAUAAAAUGGCAUUUCUCCCAAUUGAGCACCAGGUCUUUUUCAAUGCAUCUGUGAAGAACUGCUUCCAAAUUGACUAAGCAUUCCUCAAAUGUACCUCCAUAUACGGUGAUGUCAUCCAUGAAAACCUCCAUAAUUAGUUCCACCAUAUCACUGAAAAUACUCAGCAUACAUCUUUGAAAUGUAGCAAGUGCAUUGCAUAAACCAAAAGGCAUUCUCCUGUAAGCAUAUGUUCCAAAUGGACAUGUAAAAGUGGUUUUUUCCUGAUCUGCCAAAUAAAUUUCAAUCUGAAAAUACCCUGAAUACCCAUCCAAGAAACAAUAGAACGGAUGUCCAGAGACUCUCUCCAGCACUUGGUCAAUAAAUGGCAAUGGAAAAUGAUCCUUCCUGGUUACAGCAUUCAGCUUUCUAUAAUCAAUACACACUCUCCAACCUGAAGUGAGGCAUGUAAGUAACUUCUUCUCCUUUUUCAUUCUGAACCACUGUGAUUCCUAACUUCUUUGGUACCACUUGAGUAGGACUCACCCAAGGGCUAUCAGAUAUAGGGUAGAUGAUUCCUGCUUGAAGUAGCUUCAGCACCUCAGCUCGCACCACCUCUUGUAAAUGAGGAUUCAAUCUUCUUUGAAGUUGACGAAUUGGCUUUGUCUCCUUCUCCAUAUAUAUAUGAUGAGUACAAACUAAAGGACUAAUGCCUUUCAAGUCGGAUAUUUGCCAUCCUAUUGCCUUCUUACACCUCUUGAGAACUUCCAUUAAACAAUUCUCUUGAUGACUGGUCAGAGAUGAAGAUAUCACAACAGGACAUUGAUUAUUUUCUUCAAGAUAUGUAUAUUUCAGCUCCACAGGUAGAGACUUCAGAUUGAGUUUUGGAAUUUCUUUUUCAGCAACUGCCUCCUCUUCUUCAUUGAACAAAGGUAGAAUCUCUUCUAUCUUUCUCCAACUUUGUAGAGUAGCAAGCAUAGUAGGAGAUUCAGACAAACCUUCCUCAAAAUCCACAAGACUUUCAUUCAACUUGUCUUGCAUAUUUUGAUUACAGUGCUCCUCCACCAAAGUGUCAAUAAUGCACAGCUCUUCUGGACCCUCUUCUUCUUCCGGAGUGAUUUGCUUUUUAGACAUAUAGAAAAUAUUGAGAUCAAGUGUCAUGUUGCCAAAAGUGAGUUGCAUCAGUCCAUUCCUGCAGUUGAUGAUUGCAUUUGAGGUAGCAAGAAAUGGCCUUCCAAGGAUGAUAGGAACUAAAUUAGCUUCCUUUAUAGUAGGAUCUGUAUCAAGAACAAUAAAAUCUACUGGAUAGUAGAAAUUAUCCACUUGAACCAAUACAUCCUCAAUUACCCCCCUUGGAAUUUUCACUGAUCUAUCUACUAGAGAUAAAGUGAUUGCUGUUGGCUUCAACUCUCCAAGUCCCAAUUGCUUGUAGACGGAAUAUGGAAGCAAAUUCACACUUGCUCCCAAGUCUAACAAGGCUUUCUCCACUACCUUUCCUCCAAUCAUGACUGAAAUGGUAGGACUUCCUGGGUCUUUGUACUUCAAAAGAGACUUACAUUGUAAGAUUGCACUUACUUGCUCAGUCAAGAAGGCUUUCUUAUUUACAGUCAACCCUCUUUUGAUAGUACAUAAGUCCUUAAGGAAUUUUGCAUACGUUGGAACUUGUUUAAUCAUAUCCAGCAGUGGAAUAUUGACUUUCACUUGUCUCAAUACUUCAAGGAUUUCAGCUGCAUUUCUAAUCCCCUUUUUCCCAUGUAAUGCUUGAGGAAAAGGUGGAGAGGUUGAUUUCUUCAGCAUUUCUUCCUUCAUAAGUUCCUUCUCUGGAAUUGCAUUCAUUGUUGAAUCAGAGUCCUUCUUUUCUUCACUGAUCUCACUCUCUUUAUCUUCCAUUUCCUUCCCUUUCUUUAUCUCUUCUUCAUUAUCAACAUGUGGCUUGGGUGUUGGUUGCUCAAUUUUUUUACCACUCCUUAGAGUGAUCAAGGCGUUCACAUCUUUCACCUGUGAUGAUUCUCCCUCUUGGCUUUCCACUUCAUGGACACCUUUGGGAUUUUGGUGAGGUUGAGAAGGAAAUCUUCCCUUUUCUUGUAGUGUAUUCAAAUUUGUAAGCCUUGAAAUUGAAUAUUGGAUGUUAUCAAACUUUUGGUUCAUAUCAUUUUGCAUUCCAUCCAUCCUUUUAUUCAACAUACUCUCCACUCUAUCAAUUCUUUGAUAGAUUUGAGCAUUGGUGGCUUCUUGCUUUCCAACAAAAUCUCCCACUACCUUGCUGAGAUUAGCCAUUACUUGUUCAAGACUUGAAGAUUGUUGAGAUGGUGGAUCCGGCUGUUGGUAUUGAGUUGCUCUGGCCUUCCAUGAGAAAUUUGGAUGAUUCCUCCAACUUGAGUUGUAGGUAUUUCCAUAAGGCGCAUUGUUAUUGGGCUUGAAUUGCCCAAUAACUUUUGCUUGAUCUCUAAACAUUUCCCUUUCAGCUGAAAUUGCAGGGCAUUCCUCCACCAAAUGUUCAUAUGAUUGACAAUUAGGACACAGCUUCACUUGCACUGGUGCUUCAGCAACAGCUUGCACUUCAUGUAUUCUUUUCAGCUCCAGCUCCUCCAAUCUUCUUGUCAUAGCUGCCAACUUUGCUUUCAUAUCAUCAUCUUCUUUCAAGGUAUACAUCCCAGCCUUUGUAUUGAAAGCAUUCGGUUGAGACUUCAUCUUCCCCACUUCUCCUUUAGUUGGUUCAUCCCAUCCCCUUGAAACAUCAGCUAUAUAGCUCAAGAAAUCCAUAGCUUCCUCUGGAUUUUUUCUCAUGAAAUCUCCUCCACACAUUGUCUCGAGGAGUUGCUUCAUUGAGGAGGACAUACCAUCAUAGAAAUAGCUCACCAGUAACCAAGUAUCAAAGCCAUGGUGAGGGCAAGCAUUUAUAGCUUCCAUAUAUCUUUCCCAACACUCAUAGAAUUUCUCAUUCUCUUUAGCUGAGAAGUUUGAAAUUUGACUUUUCAAGCCAUUUGUUCUAUGAGUGGGAAAAAAUUUCUUGAGGAAUUCAGCUUGUAAGUCAGUCCAAGAACGGAUACUCCUUGGCCUUAAAGAAUUAAGCAAAAUUUUGGCCUUAUCCUUUAAAGUAAAAGGAAAUAACUUAAGCCUCAUCAAAUCAAUUGAAGCUCCUCCCUCUUGGAAUGUAUUACAAACAUCUUCAAAUUCCUUGAUAUGUGCAUACGGAUUCUCACUUUCCAUCCCAUGGAAAGUUGGUAGAAGUGGAACAAGAUACGGUCUGAUCACUAGCUGCUCUGUAGGGGGCACUAUACAUGAUGGUGCACUCAUACGAGGUGGAUGCAUACGGUCCCUCAUUGAUCUGAAUUCAUUGAGAUUGUCUUGACGACCUUGGUGACUAUGCUGAUCUUCAGGUGUAGCUUCCAUGAUAUUCAAGCUUACUUCGAAUUCUCUUCUCUGAGGUGUAUCACACUUAACAAGCCUUCCUCCACUGUCUCGUAUCCACUUUGGCAUACACAACUAGUAUCUAUCUGCAACUUAAUGAAAAUAAAGAACAACAACAGAAACAGGGCUACAACAACAAAAUUAAUCUAGGCUAAAUUUUAAAAUAUAAACUUAGAUUAUGAAUAAAUAAAUAAAGAAUGAGAAUUAGUAAAGUGAAAGAAACGUUACCAACUUGUGAUGAAAAUCACAAGUGCUCAAAAAUGGUAUCACUAUAAAUUUGACACCUUCCCUGGCAACGACGCCAUUUGAUUCGUGCCCAAUUGGUGUUUCAGAUAAUUCGUGUCCAGCUGGUGCUCCUUGAUUGAGGGAGUAAUCAACAAAAUUUAUAACCUAUUACACCAUAUACUAGGGUAGCAAAGACAAAGCUACUAUAGUAUAGCGGCUCUAGGAUCGUUCACUGGAAAGGAUUAGCAAGCUAUCAAUGAUACCAAUUCCAAGUGAAUUGGUCUUGUUUCAUUUCAAGGUUAGCUUAAGAAAUAAAACACAAACUUUGAUUGGUAAAGAUUUAAACUAACUAACAUAACAAGUACUCGGAAUAACUUAGGAAGAAAAGCAUUCCUUGGAGAGUUAGGUUCACUGGGGUGGUUCCUCAUGCAAAAGACAUAGCUCCGGUCAGAUGGUUCCUUUCCUCGUGUUAGAGAUUCAACAUAUAGUCACUUCUCUAACCGGUGUUGUACAGCUACCUCCUUUAAUUAGAUUUCACUUUAAUUCUCUCACUGAUGCAACUUGCAAUGGUUUAAGCCUCUCACUAAGCCUUAACCAUUCAAGGUGAUCUUUAACCUUGGAUUACCCGUCAAAAGCUCGCAAGAGAUAACUAAUGGAUGUCUCCUUGGAGUCCAAAAGCUUACCAAGUGUUGGCUAUUCUAGAAAAUCCUACCCUAAAGUCACCUCCCAGAGGCUCGCAAGGGGUAAACUAGUGCAUUUCCAUGGUUGGAAAUCACUUGCCUUACCAAGUGUUGGCCCAGGUGACUCUAAGGUGUUUUAAGUUAACUAAAAACAUAGAAAUCACUAAAGGAUUUCACUUCCUCUUCAUUACUAGCUAAAACCACAAAGCUUUGCAUUCUUGCACUUGGAACCUUCCCCGGCAACCUUAGCUCCAAGGAAUUAGAGGUUUAGUUACUCAUUCUCUGGGAAAAAUUCCUCAGAGAGUUCAUAACUUAGUAAGAAAAUAAAAAUACAAAGUGAGAAGGUAAGGCAAUACAAAGAACUGAACUUUACUUGUUUACCCAAAACUUUACAAAAGGAUCUCCUCUCUGAGAACAGGCUCCCAAGAGGUAUAUAUAUGAACAUAAUAUAAAACUAAUUAUUACAUAGAUAUUUUCUCUUUUUACUAACUUAAAAGCUAAGGAAUCUUGUAAUUGGUGGCUUACAAGGAGUAUUUUGGGAUUUAGACAACAAAAAUCUGAUGUAAAAUAUCUCCCAAUGUCGGUAGCAAAUAUCGGGAUGCUCCAGGAACCAUUUCGCAAGAGAAAAUGGUGUCUACGAGAUUUCGCAGGCACUCAAGAAGGGCUGCGAAAUCAUUUCGCAACAACAUGCUAUCUUCGCAGGGCUGCGAAGUUGGCUUCCACCUUGAGGUUCUUAGCUCCCAGCUUGCGGCAUAUAUCAGGCAACUUCAGAAGGAAAUACACCCUACUGUACAAAAAGGCUGCGGAAUCACUUCGCAGCAAAAGGGUGAUUUCGCAACACUUUGGAAAAUGCUUCCUUCAACUGGGAGUGAUUGGUUUGCAAAGGAUGCAACUUCUUCGUUUCAACUCCGAAUUGCACACCGUUUGAAGCAUUGGAUUGUUGACUUCCUGAGAUUUAAAAUGGUAUAUAGAAUACAUCAAUUGGACCUCAGAAAGUGCUCCAAAAGUGGCUGCUACGACUGUCAUCAAGAAUAUAUUUCUUGGUAGAUUCUCUUUACUUUUUCUCCUUGCAUUCCGGAUUUACUCUUGGCAAAUGACUUCCAAGCUUUGCCCAAGAUUCCUCAACACUCUCCUCAAUCUUGAAUUGCUUUGGUGAUUAAAUUACUAACAAAAACACCAAAACUUACACAAAGUGAUUAAAAUUGCUUUCAAGGGUCCUUAAUAUGCCAAUUGAGUUAAAAGGCCAAAACUACUACUCAAAAGCGUUUAAAAGGAUUAAUUAUAAGCUAUCAAAUAGCACUUUUUGAGUAGUAAUCAGUACAUAUGGUAUUGGAGUGUAGUUGAUUCUCUUUAAUGGAAUGUUAAAUCAAUUUCAAAUUUGGAUUUUGAUGGAGCAAAUACUCCUAUGGGUCCUAGUGGUUCUCGCUUUGAGCUUAUAUACUAGGUAACACAUUUUAUGAGGGUUGGAUUGACUCUAGGUUGAUUCUUGUGCAUAAGAGAAUUUUGGUAACUACGCAAGGUUGCAUAAGGGAUAAUGAACAAGGUAUUUGGUUUGGGCUAAUUGAUCAAUUAGAUGACCCUAUAUAGUUAAUUAAUCAAUUAAGAGCCAUUUUGGGCUAGACUAAGUGACUCAUGCCUUGAUGGGCUUAAGUCACUUAAGCACAAUCGACAACCUUAUAAAUACCCCUUUAUGGGUUAGCAUUUCCUAAUGACUUUUAAUGAGAGUUGUUUUCCACCUCUAGAGAAAGAGAGAGAGAAAGUCAUAGCCUCAUCCCUUUUGUUGCGCACACUUUAGAGUGCCAGGAUUGUGGUUCAAGUCAUCGGGUGGAGGAUCUUGGGUAUAUGAGACCUUCUUAGAUGAGAGGCUACAUCACAUGGACAUGCGUAGAGCACAUGCACAAGAUGUGCAUAGGCCAUGUGCAUGGGAAUUGCAUGACACAUGCACAUGGGCAGUAGCAUGAGGAGAGAGACUCUCUAGUUUUUCCAAGUAUGUUCUUCAUCGGAUGGAUUUUGAUCUGGGAACAUCUAAAUCACAUGUAUGAGUUUCAAAUCUCUAGAUCUAUAGUUAUUAAUGGUUUUCAUUGCUAAUUUAUUCCACUACGAUAGAUUUACAAAUGCCUAGGGAUAGAUGCAUGCACCCUAUGAGAUCCAAGGUAUAGGAACGAAGUAUUAAUCUAGUGGUUCCCAAGUAAUGAUAAUAGUAAGAUAUCAAGAUUGAACCUAGCACUAAUUAAACAUCUGGUAUUUAGACCUAACUCAUAUUAAUCUAAAUAGGAUCCAAAGAUUGGUAAAGUCUAGACUCUUUGAUUCCAAAAGAUCUUCUAGUUUACGAAUCCUAUAUAGAUGGUAAAAUGAUCAAGAGUACUAGAGGUAAGGAAUAUUUGGAGUUAGUGCAUACUAACAUGUAUGGAACUUUUAGAGUCUAUGCAUGGGGAGGGUAUGGGUAUUUCAUCACUUUUAGUAAUGAUUACUUUAGGUUUGGAUAUGUACAUAGGAAAUCCGAUGCCUUGGAUACAUUCAUUGAAUUUAAGGCGAGAUAGAAUAACCUAUUGGGUAUACAUACCAAGUCAUUUCAAUUAUAUCAAGUUGAUAUGUUUGGUAAGUUUGAUUCUUUCUGUUAGAGCAUAUGAUUAUUUUCUAGUUAUGUUCAUCAAGGUCUCUACUGAAAAACGAAUAAGUGGAAAGAAGAUAUCAAACUUGGAUGGACAUAGUAAGAUUGUGGAUAGGUUUCUCAUAUUUUCUCAAAUUCUUUUGGGGAUAUGUCUUAUAGAUUGUGUAAUUACUUUUUUUUUUUUUUUUUUUGCUUUCUUAAGAGGUGUAUUAGUUUAUAGGAUAUCUAAGAGGAUUUUUGGGUUAUAUUGUAGUCAAAAUCAUCAAAAGAUAUUUGUUAACAUAAAUGUCCCAUUUUUCAUGAAAAUUAUAUGAUAAGGAAGAAGGCAUAGAGUGAUAUCGAUUGGAGGAUAUAUUAGAAGAUAGUCCCACAUUGCAUAGGAUACUAUGGAUCCAGAGAGUUAAAGACAUACCAUUCCUAUGAUUUCUAGUACACCAGUACCUCAUCAUAGUGGGAAGUUUAUAUCCCACAGAUAAUGAUGAAGCGGUGAGCAAUGUUUAUGCUCACUUAAGGCAAGGAUGUGUGAUCAUGAAAUCUAUGAACCCAUAGUAAUUCAUUUAGUGAAAUUUGAGAUAUGGUCUUAGUGAGUUAGAGUAUGUUAUUUAAUCACAAAAUAAGAUGAUCUAUAAGUCAAAGAUUGUAAAGGUAGUCUUGAAAGGAUGAUAACUUUCACCUUGUUAGACUACGAACAACCAAUUCAUGGGAAGACUAUAUACAAUAGAUAGCAAGUCACAAACUUGAGCACUUGGUGUUUCGCUGUAAUAUACAUAGGGUUCUAGAGUACAAUUAACUCUCUAUAGUAGGAUAUUGAGUUAACUUUAGAAUUGGAUUCUAAGGGAUCUAGUAUUGUCCUAUGGUUCCAUUGGUCUCUACUAAAGCUCAUCUUCCUUGAUAGCAUGGUUUAUGAGAGUUGGAUAGGUUUUUAGUUCACUCGUGUGCAUAAAGGCAUUUUGGUAAUUGCAUAAGGUUACACAAGGGUAACUGUGCAGUAUCUUCGAACUUGGUUAAUUGAUUAAUUGGAGCCUUAUUUUGUUAAUUAAUCAAUUAGCAACCUUUUUGGGCUAAAUUAAGUGACCCACACCCCUAGUGGGCUCAAGUCACUUAAGCAUAGUAGGAGUAUAAAUACCUUUCUCAAGGGUUUGGGUUUCUAAUUCAAUCUUGUCAUUCUCUCCCCAUAGUCUAGAGAGAAAACCCUAGUCUUCAACCUUGAGAUUUCCAUCAUUUCAGUGCCUAGACUCAAGGAGGAGUCAUCGAGUGGAUGAUUAUGGGUUUAUAAGAUCUUUCUUAAAUUUGGAGCUUUCUACAUUAACAAGAAUUGAUUUGGGAACAUCCGAAUAAUACGUAUAACACUUUUCUCUAGAUCUAUGAUAUGUUUUUUAAAUACCAAAGUUUUCAACUAUGCUUAGAUCUAGAAAGCAUAAGAUAGGAUUACAUGCACCCUAAUAAUCCAAGGCCUAGGAAUAUAGCGAUCUAAGGUUUCCUACCAAAUAUAACCCAAUAAGUAAGAAUGAUUUAUAGGAACUAAAAUUUCUUUCAAAAAGAAAAGAAGUUUAUUGGAGUAAGAUAAGUAUACAAGAGAAGGAAAAAUGCAAAAGGAGUAGACAAAUACAAAGCAACAUUGGUGCAAAGGAUUACAAGCAAGAAUAAUGCACCAACAAGACGAGGGCAUUUGCUCUCAUUGCUCUUUUAGUAACUAUAAGAUUAAAAAUCUCUUUGAUAGCUUAAAUUAGUUGAAAAUUUUCAAAUGGAUGUGAAAUCCAAUUUUUUGAAUUGACAUCUGGAAGAAGUGUAUGUAGAAUAAACCAUAGUUGGUAUACAUAUAUAGGCAUGAGAAUAAAGUUCCAAAAUUGAAAAUAGCCUUGUAUGGAAUAAAACAAACACUAAGAGCAUGGAAUAAUAGAAUUGACCAAUAUUUUCACGAUAAUAAUUUUGUUUGAUACCUUAAUGAACAUGCUCUUUACAUAAAAGUGAAAGAAAAAAGUGAUAUAUUACUUAUUUGUUUGGAUGUGAAUUAUUUGAUCUUUAUUGGAACUAAUCCAAUCAUGUUUAGUGAGUUCAAAGAAGUAAUAGGACAAAAGUUUGAGAUGAUUGGAUUAGUCUCAUAUCAUACUCUCUUGCCAUAGACUUGAAGACAAUUGAAAAGAGUACUUUUUAUUUCUCAAGAAGACCAUGCAAAAUAAAUUUUUAGAAAGUUUAACUUGAAUAUGUGUAAUAUGGUAAACACAAUAAUAUAAUGCAAAGCUAAAUUAUCAAAGACAUGUAGAAGGAGAAAAAGUGGAUUCAACAUAACAUAAAAUCUUAGUUGGAACCAUACACUAUUUGACUCAUACAAGUUCAAACAUUCUCUUUGGAGUUGGAUUUGUCCAUCAUUAUAUGGAAGCACUAAUGAUUAUUUACACUAAGACCUCCUAGUGAAUUUUUCACUACAUCAACGACACAUUUGAUUAUGACUAAUAUUAUUCACCUUUAACAAUUUUAGACUUGUUGGAUAUAAUGAUAGUGAUUAAGGUGGAGACUUGGAUGAUACAAAGAGAACCAAUAGCUUUGUAUUCAUCAUGGGAGAGAUACCAUGUUCACUUGGACUUCAAAGAAGCAACCUAUUAUGAAACUUUCAAUCUAUGAAGUGGAAUUUGUGAAAAUGUUUACAAAAUCUCAUAAUCAAAUUGUGAAAACGUUUACAAAGUCUCUCAAGUUUAAUGAUUUUAGAAUGCUAAAGAUGCUACUUUUACAAAUCAAGUUGAAGGCAUGAGUGAAAAUGUUGACAAAGUUUAAAAUUUUUAGAAAACUAAGGAUGCAUUUUUACAAACCAAGUUGAAGGGAGGAUGCUAGUUAACCUAGAUUUAGGAAGUUUCUAAAAAUUAGAAUUUGAGUUGGAUUCUAAAAUGCUUGAUUUAGUUUGUAUAUUUGUUAGUACAAGAUUUUAUAUUUUACCAUUAUGAGUAUCUUUUUUUGUUUUUUUAGGAGUUAAUAUCUAUAAAUAAGAUGUUAAUAUCUAAAUAUAUAAUUAAAAUUGUUGUGUUUGCAAUUUUAAUGAAAUCUAGCAUUGGAUACUUAACUACAUCCCACAAAACGACAAAAAAAUGGUGGCGAUUUCAUGGAGGCUAACCAUUCACUAGCCUUUAGCCAAGUUGUGUUUCAACAGUAAAGUAAUUACCUCAGUCAAAACACAAAAUUUAGUUUUCUAAACAAUUAUUGUUCUUGGAAAACAUGCAAGGAAUUUAAGCAACUUAAGGUACUUAAGCAAUCCUAGUUGGACGUCCAGUAUUCAGAUCUUUUCAUUAAUUGGUUUUUCUCUUUUUGUACCAACACCUGCUCUCUCUCUCCAGCAUGCAAGCAUAAGUGGUAGGCACCUCUUUUGUGCUUUAAAUUAAUUGAAUACUUUAUCUUAUUCCGCCAUUCUUUUGGGUCUAACCCAAAAAUACAUUUACCAUGCCUUCUUUUCAUGUCCUCAACUUACUCAUAAGUCCCAUUGGAUAUGAUGUACUGAGUUUCAGAUUUUUCAAGUAAAAUUAUCAACAUCGUCUAGCAUAUAUACUAAUAGGUUAUACUCUUUUCAACAGUUUAAAUUGUUUUUGUUAAUAGAUUAUAUGGAUGUUUUAACACUCAGAGAAAUUGAAAUGCAGCCAAAUAUGCAGAAAAAAAAAAUGGUUGUGACUAAUAGUUAUAUUUAUUCUCUUUUAUUUCUGUUGAUACUCAAAUUUUUAGGGAUAGAGCAUCAACAAUCCUUGUGAUGAGUUACUAAUGUUGAGAAAAGUCAAUGACUACACAAUGUAGCUUAAAACCACAUAUGUCAUCAAAGAAGACAUCAAUAAUCACCCCCACACAAUGAUAUGUUGUAUAAUUCAUUACUUGUAUCAAACACAAAUUUCCUUCAAUGUGUGUCUAUGAAUAAAAGAGAGUUCUUGGUUUAUAUUCGACAUACACGCUAUAUAGGCCAUGCUAAAAGCAAUUGAUAACAAGAAUCUCAACACUGAAGUCCACGUAGAAUCAAGUGUGCACCAUAUUGGGGUUGCAUAGUUAGGAUACUGAAGGGAGCAUGAGCAUAGGAUGGCGAAAGUUCAAAUGAGAAGUGUUGUAAGAUCAUUGCCAAAGCUAUUUUUGCCUCCAUCAUUGCAAAAUUUUGUCCAAUGCAUACCCGAGGACCCCAACCAAAUGGGAAAAAUGAAACUUGGUUUUUUGUUGCCUUCAAAACUGCUUCUGCAAACCUCUUUGGAUUAAACUCCUUUGCAUCAUCCCCCCAAAUUUCAUGAUCAUGGUGAACUAGGAUGGUGGGCAACACGACCUGCACUCCAACUGGAAAACACAUGUCUCCCACUUGAGUGUCCUUAUAAACAGCUCUAUGAAGCAUUGCUACUAGUGGGUAUAACCUAAGAACCUCAUGAAAAAUCAUGGUAACCUGUGGUAGAGAAACUUUAGAAGUUGUUGCAUGAGAAUUCCUACUAAAAUACAUUCUAAAUCAGUAUGAAGGACACUGAAGAAUAAAGCAAUUUCUUAAAAUAGUGAUGCAGAAGAGAAAAUGUUCUAAAUCAUGCAUAACAAAAUAUCAAGUAUGCAAAGGACAUUGCAUAUCCCAUGCAUAUAACAACUUAAGAACCUCAUGAAAAAUCAUCAUAAUCUAGCAGAGGAAUUUGAAAUCAUGGCAUGAGAACCCGUUCCUGAGGUACUAAGUGAAAGCAAAUGUUUAGUACAAGAUAUAAAAACUUAAGAGAAACGUGUUUUCAAUUUUACUCCAAUUAUGGGGAAAAAAACAGAGUACUAUAUGAUUUUAGUGAGAAUCACUAAACUAAAGAUUGGAUUGAGUACUCACAAUUUUUAGGUGAUUUAAUCCAUCAGCUUCCGGUUUUUUAUUCCCAAAAACUGUAAAACCUCUUCUCUUGCACAAGCUUGCCAGUUUGGAUGCUCGCUUAGCAGGACCAUUGUCCAUACAAGCAAAACUGAGGUUGUCUCUUGGCCAUCAAGAGAGAAUAGCUUACACUCUUCAAUGACAUCUUUGACACUCAUUCCAAUCUUCUUGUUAUUUUGAUGUUCUUGAAUUUCUCUAAAAUUGGAUUCCAUUAGUAUACCUAAUAAGUCACUACUAGCAGUUUCGCCAGCCUUCAUUGCCUUCUCCCUAUUGCUAACGAUACCCCUCAACAAUGCAUAUACUUCUUUGCUUAUUUGCUUCAUCCUCCUGUUCCGUCUUUGUGGGUAAAAACCUGCGCGCAUGUUAGUAAUUCUAGUAAAUAAAACAUCACAUGAAACACACAUACAUUAAUUCUUAUUUUCAUCCAUGCCUUCUACUUCUCCAUUAAUUUUUUGAAACUUGUAUAAGGCUUCAAAGGUAGAAACUAUGAAGACAAUAACUAAUGGUUUCAUCUACACAUGUGUUGUAGUGGUAUCUCAUCAUCUUGACACAAUAUCCUACAAACAUAAGAUUGAGGAUACUAAACAUCAAUUAGAGAAACAUACUACUUUCUAAGUGUUAUACAAAAGAAGUAAUUGACUAAAAGGGGAUGAAGUGAUCUCAGAGUUGUAAAUCUAAUAUCUCUUAUGCUUGACCUUGAAAAGUAAUCCAUUUUUAACAUAAAUUCUCUUCGAACAUAAAUUCCCUUCAACCUUGUUAGCCAAACACACACUUGAGCAUUGUGAAACUUUCAACCUAUGAAGCGAAAUUUGUGUUGGCAUCAUUUGUAGGUCAUGAAAUUUGUUCAAGAAACUUAAAUUACCACACAAGAGACUGAUAAAGAUCUAUAUGGAUAUAAAAUCAACAAUUACCUUAUGAGAAAAAUCUAGUUCUCCAUGAUGGUGUUGAAUUUUGAAUUUUGCCUUAGUAUCUGCUGGAAUUUGAAUUUUGAAGUUAAAUUUUGUAGCUGGAGUCUUACAAAAAAUAUGCAACAUCCAAAUAUUUUAUUGUUUUUAUUUGGUCAAGAUUUGGUUUCUAUUUUAUUGGAAGUAAUUGUUCAUCAUCUAGUAGCUUGAUUUUCUAUUAUUCUAAUGUCAUUUCAGUUACAAGCUCAUGUAUAAAUUCAACACUCUUCAUCAAUAAAAUGUGUGUUCCAGCAAUCCAAAAAUAUAUAUUCUGCAUAAGUGUUUCAAUCUAAGAUCAACAGAUGGAAGACAGUAUAUUGAUACAAAAUAUCAUUUAUUAUAGAGUACAUUAUGAAAUAUGAAGUGCAAUUAAAAUUUACAAAAUCUCAUGAUCAAAUUGUGAAAACAUUAACCAAGUCUCUCAAGUUUAAAGAUUUUAGAAAGCUAAGGAUGCUAUUUUUACAAAUCAAGUUGAUGGGAGGAUGUUAGUUAAACUAGAUUUAUAAAGUUUCUAAAAAUUAGAUUUUGAGUUAGGUUUUAAAAGUUAAUUAAAAUAUUUUAUACAAAAUUCUUGAUUUAGUUUGUAUAUUUUGUUACUGCAAGAUUUUAUAUUUUACUAUCGUGAGUAUCUAUUUUUUUUAGGUGUUAGUUUCUAUAAAUAAGAUGUUAUGUAAUAGUUGAUCAAGUGUACAGGUGGAUGAUAAUAAAUUUUUUCUUAAUCAUCUCAAUUAUUUAUAUAUGUAAUUGCUUAUGUGUUUUUUCAACCACAUUGCUGCAACAUAGGUGAAUCUGCUGGUUGGUCUAUAAAAAUUCAUAUCAAUUGUUCAACCUGUUACAUUCUGUUAGGCUUAUGUAACGAUGUAGAUUAUAGUCUCUUUCCCUAAAAUUUCAUGGUGUUAACAUUUCAGGAAAGCAAAAUUUCCUAAAAUGGAAUAUGGUGUGCAAGGACAAAGAGACUUAUUAGGCAUCUAAACUCCAGGGAAAUCUGUCGAAACACUGCUGCAAAAAGAAAACAAAGCCCCAAAUAACUCUUUGAUCUUUUGUACCAAGCAGACUCGUGUAUGAAUAGUUUCAGAAAAAUAAGCUGCAUAUUUCUUGAAAUAUUUUUAUGCAUACCUCCAUCCCGGGAUAUAAACUGACAUUGUAACUGUUAAAAGGUAGUCUUUUUUCUUAUUUUUCCUUGUGUGUUGAAUACAAUACUAUAUAGAUUCAGAACAAAGGAACCUAUUCUAGCCUAUACAUAUCUUGCGGCAAAAAAUAAGGCCAUCCCUUGAAGUAUGGGAUUUACAUAAACAGAUUUCUAUACUUAUCUCAUUAGACAGCUCACGACAACACUCCCCCUCAAGUUGGUGCAUAGAUAUCUUUUAUGCCCAACUUGUCAAGUGAGUUGUAGAAAUUCCUUACAAACACUGCUUUUGUGAGUACAUCAGCCAACUGGUCUUCUGAUUUGACAAAUGGAAGCUGAAUAAUCUUUUCUUCAAGGUUUUGUUUGAUGAAGUUCCGAUCCACCUCAACGUGCUUAGUGCGAUCAUGUUGAACCGGAUUGUGGGAGAUAGCAAUGGUCGUUGUGUUAUCACAUAACAAGUUCAUUUCGGAACUAGGAGCAACAUCGAUCUCAGCUAGCAGCUUUUUCAGCCAAAUGAGCUCACAUAUUCCCUUGACCAUUCCCCGAAAUUCAGCUUCAGCACUAGAUAGGACAACUACUUUCUGUUUCUUGCUCCUCCAUGUAACUAGGUUGCCUCCCACAAAAGUAAAGUACCCAGCAGUGGAUUUCCUGUAUGUGAUGUUCCCUGCCCAGUCCGCAUCUGUGUAGCCAGCAACCUUCAAAUGACCAUUCUUUGAGAACAUAAGCCCUUUCCCCGGAGAGGACUUCAAAAAAUGAAGGAUUCGCAUUACAACAUCCAUAUGGUCUUCACUCGGCCGGUGCAUGAAUUGACUCACUACACUCACAGCAUAAGCAAUGUCUGGCCGAGAAUGAGAUAAAUAGAUGAGUUUACCCACUAACUGUUGAUACCUCUGUUUGUCCGCUGGUACCUGGUCUACAUAUUCUCCAAGUUUAUGAUUUUGGACAAUUGGAAUAUCAACAGGCUUACACUCUAGUAAUCCCACCUCUGCUAGCAAGUCUAGUAUAUAUUUCCUUUGGGAAAGAAAUAUGCCUUGUCUUGACCUUGCCACUUCAAUGCCCAAAAAAUAUUUAAGCCCCCCUAAGUUCUUCAUCUCAAACUCAGUUGACAAUUGAUCUUGAAGCCUGGAUAUUUCUUCUACAUCAUCCCCUGUAAUUAUCAUGUCGUCUACAUAGACUAUGAGGGCUGUUAUUUUUCCCAAUCGAUGUUUUGGGAAGAGAGUGUGGUCAGAGUUGCUUUGUUGAAAUCCAUAUUUCCUCAUUACCGAACUCAACCUGCCAAACCAUGCUCGAGGUGAUUGCUUUAGUCCAUACAAUGCUCGUUGUAACCUACAUGCAAUCUUUGCCUCUGAUGUAGCAGUAUAGCCUGGUGGAAUAUCCAUGUAAAUCUCCUCUUCAAGAUCACCAUGGAGAAAGGCAUUUUUUACGUCAAGUUGGUACAAUGGCCAAUCUAAGUUUGCUGCAAGAGACAACAGAACUCUAACAGUUUUUAGUUUUGCUACAGGUGAGAAAGUUUCCUGAUAAUCUAUACCAUGUUUCUGUGUAUAACCCUUUGCUACCAACCUCGCCUUGUAUUGAUCAAUCGACCCAUCUGCUUUAUAUUUAAUAGAGAAAAUCCACUUGCACCCCACUGUCUUCCUCUCUUCCGGCAACACACUCAAAACCCAUGUAUUAUUUUUCUACAACACCUCCAAUUCUUCUUUUAUAGCUUGAGCCCAUUUCAGAUCCGAGAAAGCUUCUUCAACCCUACUUGGAAUCUGACAUGAGGAGAGUGUAUGUGCAAAAGCUCUGAGAGGUUCAGAUAAUCUUUGUGUAGACACAUAAUUGGCUAUUGGAUACUUGGAUCGUCGUUCUUCUAUGUCUAGGGAGUAUCGAUUUGGAGGCUUGCCUCGAUUGUGUCUGAAAGGUAGAACAUAACCCGCAGAUGUAUCUAUAGCAUUAGUUUGUAAAGGUGUGGUAGGAGAGCUUACCUCAGGAAUAUUCUUAGUAGGAGGGUCGUUGGGUACUAACGAGUGAGGGAAUACAUCAGAUUCUGCAUCUUCCGAUGAUUCAGGUGCUGGUUCAGCUUCAGUUCUCAGAGGUUCAGGUACAGGAUCAUGUUCAACCAUGUCGUUGUCAUCAUUCGGAUGUGUUGGAUUGUCACCAACGUCUAACACUUCAACAUCAGACCAAUUCCGUUCUUCACCAUAGAUCUCCCCCUGAAGAGGGGAAUUGGAUAUCGGUGACAAAAAAAAAUUCAGAUUCAAGGAAGGUGACAUCCAUGGUAAUGUAGGUUCUUUUAGCAAUGGGAUCGUAGCAUCUGUAUCCCUUUUUGUGUACUCCAUACCCCAAGAAUAAACACCGGACAGCACAUGGGUCCAACUUAGUUCGUUGAUUUUUAUGGAGGUGAACAAAAGCAACACAACCAAAAAUUCGGGGAGGAAUCAUCAAAACAGUCGGUAAGGAGACAUGAUAAGAAAGCACCUUUAGUGGAGUCUGAAAUUGUAAGACUUUGGUGGGCAUACGGUUCAGUAGAUACACGGCUGUGGUAACAGCAUCACUCCAGUAUCUAUUCGGCACAUGUGCAUUGAUCAAUAGAGCACGGGCAGUUUCUAAGAUAUGCCUAUUUUUCCUUUCAGCAAUACCAUUCUGUUGUGGGGUUUGUGAACAUGAGGUUUCAUGGAGAAUACCAUGGUUGUUGAAGUAUGUCUGGAAUUAUUGAUUAACAUAUUCCCCUCCAUUGUCAGAACGAAUGAUCUUAAUUCUUGCAGAGAAUUGUGUCUGAACCAUGGCAUGAAAUGAUUGAAAAAUAGAAAAUACUUCAUCUUUGUGUUUUAGGAGGUAAAGCCAUGUCAUUCGUGUGCAAUCAUCAACAAAUAUUACAAACCAACGAUGACCAGAAGACGUAGUUACUAGUGAAGGUCCCCAAACAUCGGAACGUAUUAAAUCAAAAGGAACCAUACUUUUAUUCAUGCUCAUGGGAUAAGAAGCCCUAUGACUUUUGGCUAAGAUGCAAGUAUCACAUUUAAAACCUAAAUGUGUUACAUUUGAAAAUAACCCAGGUAAUAAGUGCUUCAAAUACCCAAAUGAUGGAUGCCCAAGUCGAUGAUGCCAUAACCAAAUCUGUCUCUCCUUGUUACCAACCUUGUGGUGCAUGUGAUUUGCUCUUCCCGAACUGAAGGCAUCCACGUAGUAUAACCCCCCCUCCUCUUAGUACCACACCCAAUUAUCUCAUUGGUGAGAAUAUCUUGAAGAAGGCAAAAAGUAGAAUACAUCAAUACCACACAAUUAAGAUAUGAAGUAACUUGGCUUACAGACAUCAAUCUAUUUGAAAGAGAGGGUACAAGUAAUGUAUUAGAUAAUGAAAGGGAAAGAGAAAAAGUCACUGUUCCAGCCCCUGUAACUAGAUAGGUGACCCCAUUAGCAUUUGCAACACAGCUCCUUCUCGGCUGAGUUGUAUUAGAGAAAUCCUUUGAAUCAAAUGUCAUAUGGUCUGUAGCCCCAGAGUCGAGAAUCCAGUCCUCAUCAUCCUUGUGAGUAGAGAUAUGAAAUGCCUUACUCGAAGUACCUGAAUCAUGUGAAGAUUCAGCUUGAGGAAUGAGGGAUAACGAAGCAUCACAAGUAACCACUGCAGCUCUCCUAGUGUGGUUAUCAUUAGCAAUGAUUUCCCAUUUUUUUCGUGCUUGAAGGUCAUUCCACCAAUCUGGAUAUCCAUGCAGUUUGAAGCAGGUGUCACGGGUGUGUUUGGAGUUGCCUCAAUGGGUACACUUCAUGUCGUCAGAUGGUGGUUUAGUUUUGGAUGAGGAGUUGGAUUUCCCGCUGCUUAGGGAAAGAGCUCCAGGUUUCGGUGGCAUCUGGUGAUGGCUGCCCUUGAUCCCUUUGGAAGCCAUAACUGCUCCUGGAGGAGUAUCUGCACCUGAGAUCAUCAAGGUCUGCCUGACCUCUUCCCUACGGACAAAUGCAUAGGCCUGUUCCACCGUAGGGAAUGGUUUAAUUUGUAGAACAUCACUCCGAGUUUUAUCCAAUCUGUCAUCUAGUCCAUCAAGGAAGGUAUAAACUCGAUCUUCUUGUAGAAUGGAAUUGUAUUUCUGUAUGUCAAUUGCACACUCCAUCGGGUUAGGACGAUGAAAAUUGAUUUCUCGCCACAGCCCUUGAAGGUUGUUGUAGUAUUUUUCAAUGGAUCCACCCGCCUGCUUCAUACGAGUAACCCGACGUCGGAGAUCAUAGAUGUCCCAUCAAAAUAGGUUAUAGAAGCAGAAUCCCAAACCUAUUUUGCAGUUGGGAAUCGGAUAAAAUUGGCAAUCAAGGAAGGGUCCAUCGAAUUGAUCAACCAUCCCUUGACAAUGGCGUUUUCGGUGCGCCAUCUCCUGAAUGAAGGAUCGGUUUCUGGAGGCUGAGGAGAAUCUCCAUUGAUAUAUCCCAGCUUGUCCUUGCCAGAGAUAUACAUCUCGACAACCUGGGACCAUAAGGCAUAGUUGGAUCCUUCCAACUUGAUACCGAUCGGAGUAGUUGACGAAUCAGCAAGCAGAGGUUGAGGGGAGGUCUGGGCUCUAGUCAGGACCUCGGUCACUCUUGUAGUUAGAUCGCUAAGGAUGGAAUCAGUCUGGGGAAUGAGAGGUUGUGUUAUGUCUCUAGAUUCCGCAAUGGAGUCUGUCGGUUCUGGUUUGACAAGAUUUGUUGUAUAUUAACGGAUAACCGGCUGGAAGGAAUCAGAGGGAAGCAGCGCUGGAAACUGACCAGGAAGAUGAAGAUGAUACCAGGUGGGUCUUCCGGAGUUUUUUCCUGGUCAUAGUGGCUGAGCAGAGGUCCUAGGGACGUGCUCUGAUACCAUGUUAAAAGGUAGUCUUUUUUCUUAUUUUUCCUUGUGUGUUGAAUACAAUACUAUAUAGAUUUAGAGCAAAGGAACCUAUUCUAGCCUAUACAUAUCUUGCGGCAAAAAAUAAGGCCAUCCCUUGAAGUAUGAGAUUUACAUAAAUAGAUUUCUAUACUUAUCUCAUUAGACAGCUCACACUAACAGUAACCUGGCUUGCAAAAUGUGUUUGUUCUUUCUGGAGCUAGAAUAUCCUUCUUCCUUCUUCAUAGCUACUACCAAAUGCUGUCCGAGAAAUCACAUCCCCUGUCAAAUUUUCAAGAUAGGGCCAAACAUCCAACUCACAUGAUCCCCCCACCGAAAGCAUUUUCCAUUUGGUCACCAUGUCGCUACAACUCAAAUGAAAUGCCGGCAACAUAUUCUAUAACAAAUUCAACCAAAAAAUAAAUUAAUAUCCAGUUUCAAAUUCAAUAUACAGCCAUUUAUCACUGACCUGUGAAAUAACAAUUUAACUAGUUCAUAAAGUAUGUACUACUUAAAGUCACCAUAUGUUAGGAAGAGUCAUAUGGGUGGAGGAUGAGGAAUAUUCAGUUUUACCAUGGAGGCACUGACUAAAGAAAUCAUAGAAAAAAAAUGAGCAUAUUCAUGAAAAGUUAGAUGUACUGGUAAUAUUAAUGAAAAGUUAGAUGUAUUGGUAAUAAGCAAGUAAGAUAAGAAAGUUGUUAAGAUCUUACUGUCAUAUGUAUCAAGUAUUUUGAUCCUUAUGGUUUACUUUGGCAAAUAAAACUUCUGAAAAUUUCUAUUGGAGACUGGAAAAAGACUUUAUAUGAGUAAGAAAAAAAAAACAAGGUAAAGGUAGGACACAUUGGGUAUGUGAAAAUACUUUAUUAAACUGAUCGAAAUAUUUGGGAAUUUCGAUAUUUAUACAGGUUUUUAGAAAAAAUUUUAUAAAAAAUUGGUAGUUAUUAUUUUUCGAAUACUAAUAUAAAUUUAUCUUUCAAAGACACAAUUUUAGUGUAGUUUUCAAGUGUUAAAAUUAUUUUUUUUAAAAGACAACUUUAUAAAAUUCAUUUCUUUUAACUUUUAAAUGAUAACUUUCUAAUUAGUAUCUAGCAAACUGAUGUAGAAUUGAAAAUAAUUUUUCAACUAACAUAUUUUAGAAGAUUAUAUAUAUAUCAACCUAAGAUACAUGAGAUGAGAAAUGGGUAUUCAUAACCUCCAAAUCUUAUAUAUAUUAUCGCUUAAAUUUUUGUUCCACUGCAUUCACAUGUUCAAUCUCUUUUCCAACAGUGGGAGGGCUAUGCAGAGAUUAUGGAACUGUAAUAUGUCACAAUUGAAACAGUUUCAAUUAUGGAACUGUUUGUUCACUUUCACAGUUUGUGAAAAGAUUAAAAAAAAAAACAUGGAAAUUAAGGUAAAAUAUUCUGGUUUGGAAACUGGGCAUUGAAAAUUACCUUCAACUUUUCUAGAUGGAAAGCUGGGUUGAUGAUCUUUCUACGUUUAGCCCAUCGUUCGCCUUCCAAGGUCACCAGACCAGAAACCAGCAACUUGCCAAGUGGGUGUGGGGGUGGCUUUUGAAAGACAUUGGACUUUAGCAAAACAUCCCUUAUUAGCUCAGGCUCCAUAAUGUUUACCAUUGGAUUUGGACCGAACCAUGCAAAGGAAUUUUUACCUGCACGUUUAUGCCAUUAUUGGAUAGUGUUAGCCUCAAAUUGCUUUUAAUUUGGACUUCACACAAAUUCAACUUUGGGUAUCAAAAUUUAGUUGAACCCAACUUGGACCAUCGAAAACAAUGAAAACUUCAGCCAUAGUUUCUAUGAUGAGUUAUUAUAAAUGGACUAAAUCAUUUUUUCAGAAUUGUCUCAAUGUCAAUUGAUAUUAAGGAAUGAACUCUAUUCAUUGUAGCCUUGAGAUUAAAUAAUGAAAUCAAGAGGGCUAUCAAUAUGCUUGGCAGGCUGGGUGACAGUUUUGGAUAGAUGCAACAAUUUUAAUUAUAUAUUUAGCUUUGGAUUCUUUCCAGAGAAUAUUCUGCAAUCUAGCAUGGGAUACUUAAAGACUACAUCCCACAAAAAGACAAAAAAAAUGGUGGCAAUUUCAAGGAGGCUAAUCAUUCGCCUGCCUUUAGCCAAGGAUUAGUUCCAAACAAAACCUUCCGAAAAGAAAGGGGGAGAGCCCUUCUGGAUGGACUUGGCAUCGACACAAUAGAAUUGGCAUCGAAAGAAAAAUAAAGAUUUAACCAAUUGAGCACAAAUAACUGACAUAAAAAUUAACACUUGAAAAAAAAAGUUGAAAAUUUGGCAUAAAUUAAAAGUUAUUCACAGCUCCCAGAAAUUAAACAAUUGAAAAGUAAAAACAGUACUUUUCAAAGUGGUUAAGAAAUACAGUUAGCAAAGAUUACGAACUACCACUGAAAUCUAAACCUUUGGUGUAAUUUAAAAAAGAGGAAAAAAACAGAAAGGAAAAGAAAAAUAGUUAGGAAGAGAAGAGCAGAAAACAAACAAAAGCUUUAGGGGAGUAUAAAAAAGUUGGCCAUAAUUUGAAGAGAUCAGCAAACUUUAAUACUAUGAUGAAAAGUAAUAAGUCAUAUCGGUACCGUAUUUCUUAAUGAAAUGAAAAUGGAAGGGCAGGACACGUGGAGUAGUAUCAUCGGAGAGGCUGAUUGGUCUUGAAUAUGCUUCUUUUAACAUCAUGGACAUCUCUUUGAAGUCCCCAUGUAAAAGCCUAUAAGAAUUCCCAGCCAGGCCUUGCUCUCUAAGGCAUCUUUCUAACCUCUUUGGCCUCAACCACACCCAAUUCAGUAGCCUCCAUAAACAGCUUAUGAGCACAGUAAGGAACCCAAAAGAAAUUGCAACUGAGCUAUGCUUCAUUUCCAGUUUGAGGGACUUCUAUCAGGAGAGGUAUGUUAAAUCACUUCAGAGUGAGAAAAUGACUUUAUGCUGCCGCUGUGUAUAAAUUGGCCCCUAUUCUAUUCCCUCGUGCCGGCAAACAUAGAAGAUUUCGUAAAUGCCUAAUGGGGAGAAGAAUGACUAGUAUUUUAAAAUCUAUAAAUUAUCUAUUUUAAUUGUCUCCAUCAAUAUGGCUUUUAAACUUCUCAAUGAAUUAUUAAUUUAUUCUAUUUGAUGCAUUUCAAAGUUUGUGCAAUCGUCACUGCUUAUUAAAAACUGUAUAUGCCAUGAAUGUAGAAGGCAAAAUUUGAGCAUACGGAAUAUGGAAUUCUAUUUGAUGGACCAGCUUUCACUUGUGAGUCGAUGGAGCAUGUGGAUGCUCACUUUCAGAGCCUCAAGGGACAGCUCGCAUCCCUCACAUCUUGGCAGAUGUCUCAGGGUGCUUCCAGCUCUACAACUCCAUCUGAUCUGGACUUUUUGAUACUUCAUGUUUUUUUGAUACUUUAUGUUUUUUUUUUUUUGUUUUUUGUUUUUUUUUUUGUUUUGUUUUGUUUUGUUUUGUUUUUUUGUUUUUGUUUUUUUUUUUUUUUUGUGGAUAAGUUUAUUUUGUACACCUAACCCAUGUUGGCUCAGUUUAUCACAUAUUUUGUUUGUCUAGAUGUACUUUUAUUUUCUUAUCUCUUGUAUCCAGAACCUUUUUUACCAUAUAUGUCCAUGUGUUUGCUUUUCUUUUCUCCUUUUCGUAUGCUUACUGCUUCAUCAUGCUCUUUGUCAUUUUUUGCAACAAAAAAGGGGAGAUGGAUUGUUGAUUUGAUUGAGUGUUUUGAUAUUCAUAUUUUUUUUACAUCUGUUUCGUGGCUUGCACCCUUACUCGUAUACCUAAUUUGAUAAAAUUGAUCAGUUAUCUUUCUUCCCACACACUACUUUACCUGGGUAUGUUGUUUAGUGUGUGGAAAUUCUAGGUACUAGGGUAUUGCUCAUUUUUUGGAUGUGGCUUCUAGUCCUUUGCACGUUAGAUGAUGAAUUGGUUUAGAUAAGAGGUAUUGAGAGAUUUGUAAACUCCAUUUGAGAGUAUUGAGGGGUUUAUGCAAUUUGUAGUUUAUCACAAAAUUGCAUAGGGGAGAGAUUGUUCGUACAUUAGGUGAUGUAGUUUAAAAUUGUCAAUUUUGUUCUAUUCAUUUUGGUUUAGGAUCUUUCUAGAUUGUGUCUCACUCCCCAUUGAAGACUCAAGGUUAUUAAUUGAUCAACUAGGAUUACAUAGGUAGGUGUAAAAAGAUUUGGGAAAGACAAGUUAGUGUUUGGUAUGACAUGGCAUGGAUUGAGUAGUUUAACAUUGAUGAGCAAAAUGAUUUUCUAACCGGGUUUAAAAAAUGCCUAAAGCGCUCAAUCACUCUAAGAGCAUUUGAGUCCUAGCAACAAAAUUCUCUAGAAUUUUGGAGAUCUGUCUUUCUAUUUUUAAAGGAUUUAUUUUGAGGAACUUUUUAGAAUUAGUCCACUAGGUUCCUAGGCUUAUAUAUACAUUGCCUAAAAAGGUUUUUGGUUUGAUGCUUUUGAGUUGAAAAACCUAGAUUGUCUUCCUAUUUCCAAAAUUCUAAAAGAAACAUUCAUAUUUACUUAUGCAUAGUUGAGAUGGAGAUUUGUAUCCUCCUCAAGUGCUGAAGUGAGAUCCUCUAUGAGCACAUGAGAUGUUGCAUUGUGGAAGCAAAACACAAUGUAAGUGUUAGGUAGUAAGUCUUAGUAGUAGCUUUCUAAUGCGACUCAUGGUAGCUUAGUUUUAAAGGCGUAUCAACAAAAUUUAUACCUUGAAUACUAUUACUAAAGUAGCCAAGCUACUAUAGCAUAGUGGUUCUAGGAUUGUUCACUGGGAAGGGUUUUCGCAAACACAAGUGAUAUUCAAAUUAGGAAAAUAGGUGAUUUUCUUAUGGAUGUUAGCUUUAAAAGAAGAUGUAAAUGUUUUAGAAAGAUUUAAACUAAUCUAAGCUAACAUUAAAGACUAAAAUGAAAGGGUGUAAAAACAAGUUUCUCAAAGAUAGGAUAGCUAUGCUCUGACUCUUAUGCAAAUUGGAAAUCUCAAGAUAGGCUCCUUGAGUUGGGGUUGCAACUAUGGUGAUGCUUGCUUCCCGAACCGGUAUGGAUUUAACAAAUCAAGUUUUAAUCCUUUAAAAUGGAAAAAUAGAUGGUAGUGAAUUUCAUCAAUGGUUAUUCACCUUAGACUUCCUUUGAAUGGCUUGUAAGAGAUAACUAAUGGUCUAAAGCCAAAAGCUUCCCAAAUAUUGGCAACUCAAAGUCAUUCCAAGUGAUAAACUCACCUUUCAAUGGCCAUUGAAAUUGGUUAUAACGGAUUAAUGCAAAACUUGGAAUUGAAAACCUCACCUUCCAAUAGCUCGUAGGAGAUAACUAAUGGAUAGAAAUCCAAAAGCUUAUCAAGUAUUGGCCGUUGGAAGUUGUCCAAAGGAAAUAAAAACCAAACUUUGCAUUAAUGAACCUUUAAUGAAAAACGGCUACUUUACCUUCCGGGUGCGAGAAAUUUCCAUGGGAUUGCAUCCAAGUCAUCACAUAACAUCCAUACUCUGAGAAACUAAAAGUUUUAGCCAAUCAUCCUCUGAAGAAAAGCUCUCAGAGGCUGUUUGGCUUCCAAGAAAAUAAAAUAGUAAAGAGAAAAGAUAAACGAGAGAGCUCUCCCCUGUUUUCUAAGUGUAAAACGUAAUAUGUAUCAUAUCCUUCCAAGAGGUGAUUUCCACCCCUUAUAUAGUCUUUACAAAAGCAAAAGCUUGUGAUUGGUUAGUUACAAGGAUAAGAAAGGAAAUUACAUCAAAAAAUACAUAAGAAAAUAUCUAAAUUGGAGUCGGCAAAAACAGAGCAAAAUUCGCACCACGCAUGGGCUGUGCGAAUUUUGAAGGUGUUGUGCGAAUUUCGCACAACACAAGGUGUCGUGCGAAUUUCGCACAACACAAGGUGUCGUGCGAAAUUUUCGCACAACCUAGAGCGGUUGGCUUCCGAAGGCCAUAUCUUCCUCAUUUCAGCUCCAAAUCAUACACGGUUUGAAGCAUUGGAUUCUUGACUUCCUGAGCUUUCAAAUGGUAUAUAGAAUGUAGAAAAUGGACUUCGGGAAGUGCUCCAAAAGUGCGAAAGAAUACUGCAGCUGCUGUCCUCUGAUUUUUUCACUUUGCUUUCCUCUUCUCCAUUGUUCUUUCCUUGCAUACUUUGAACGACUUUGGCAAAGGGCUAUGGAGCUCCAAAGCUUGGUUCUUCAUGAAUUUGAGCUUCCAAAAGCUUUGCCAUAACUUGUCCAAUUAGCUCCUCCAUCAUUUGGCAUGCUUGAAUUGAUUCAUAAGCUGAUAAAAACAUGUAAACUUGCCACAAAAUGGUUAAAACCAAUUACUAAGGACCUUAAUGAAUUAAUUGGGUUAAAUGAAUAUGAUUACUACUCAAAGGUGCUUAAAACCAUUAUAAUUAGGUCUACAAAAUAGCACUUUUUGGUAGUAAUCACUUUCAUCAGGUAAAAUUGAGUACAUACCCCAUUAUAUAUGAUGGAGAGCUCCUCAAAUGCAUAUCCUAGAAUCAAAAUCAAUUGAUACUAAAUUAACACCUAACCCAUAUUUCAAACAAAAUCUUGCUAUUUCACAUUUUCAGCACCAAUCCAUGAAAAUGGUGUUUUUGGGGAGCAAUUUCAAUUGAUUUAGAAGAUCAUAUGAGAUCUUACUCUUCCCAUCUUGAGACUUGAGACUUAAGAGUAAUCUGUUUUCAGAUAGAUUCAAUAUCACUAUUUGAUUAAUUUCUAUGUACAGUAUGUUUUUCUAUAUUUUAAACUCAUAAAAAUUCCAUCCUUUUAAUUCUAUUAGAAUAACGUAAAUCAUAUGGAAGUUAGAUUCUAAAUCUCCAAUCUUCACAUCAUCAAGUAUCAACUAUAAGAACUCAAACUCAACACUUUAGUGGCUCUAAAGAGUCUAUUUUAGUGCAUUUGAGGUAUUUAAAAAUGACCUAAUGCUUGUUUAUUGUGCAUCUCUCAAGUGUGCCACCAAACUAAAUUGCACACUCCCUCUAGCAAUUUAAAUUGACCACUUUCCCCAUGAUUCAAAUGUUGCAUGGCCCCUCAACAAUUGAACCCAACAAGAGCACUCAAGUUGUGCAUGUCUGUAACAUCUUAAUUGCACUUUUCCCUACCACUAUAGUAGUGUAUCCCUAGGGCCACUCAACAUGCAUUGUCACGCCCCAAAGCCCACUCCAAGGACAUGAUGAUCUUUUCACACCUAGCUCAAGCCCAAGGGCUCAAAGUGGAAACGACACAAACAUUUGUAUUGUAACUGGAAAUUUAUUAAUUACUAAAUUCCUGGAUCAAACAUUUUAAUUAUGCUUGCAAAUAGGAGAUAUAACAUAUACUUAUUUUCAUAAAAACUUUUGAGCUCAAAAUGCUAAUACCUUCAAACUUUUCAACAAAAAUUUCUCAUAUCCAUUUCAAAACAAUUUCUCAUCAAACCACUCCGAAUACAUUCAAAAUAUCUUUACUCUGGUUAUCGUAUGACAAAUGGUGCCCAAUUAGGUGGGACCUUGCAAUUGAGUAACUAGUUUCAAAUUUGUUCGAUUUAAGGUUAACAAAACCAAAUGUCAACAAUUAUAACCCAUUGACUAGGGUCAUAAGGUCAACUAUUAUAAUCCAUUAACUAAGAUCAUAUAAUAUCAACUAUUAUAACCCAUUGACUAAGGCUAAAAAUGUCAACUAUUAUAACCCGUUGACUAAGGCCAUAUAAUUCAGAGUCAAAUAUUUUAUUUCAUUAAUUCAAACUUACAAAACAAAACAUCAUAUCUCCUCAAUUUUUCAUUUUUCAUAAACAAAGAAUAUACUCAAAUAUACUUUCAAUACAAAACAUAUAUUUGAUUUAUGUUUAAAGAUAAAAAUAAUAUUUUUACACAUUUCAAAAUACAAUAUAAAAAGAAAAUUAUUUUCUUUUACAAAAAUCUGCAUUAAUUUCAUUUACCUUGAAGAAGCACUCAAAAUCUUAAAUUAUUUAGCUUUGAAGAAUUUCCUCACCUAACAUAAUAUCAUACACAAUAUUGAUUAUUGAUUGUUUAUCUAAAUAUAUAAAUUUGACAAUCUUAAAAAUAUUUUAUUUAGUAUUAGGGAUCCUAAUUAAUUUCUCAUGUUAAUAUUAUUACCAUCCAAUAUUAUUUUCAACUUCCUAAACAAUAAUUUAUUUCUUUUUUCUAACUUAUCUAAAUUAAAUCUUUUAAGAAUAUUUAUUUGCAUUAAACAUUAUUACUAUUAUUUAAAUCUCCUACGAAAACUUAACAAAUUCCCCAUACAAAUCUUUUUUUUUCCCAGCAACUUCACACCAACUCCAUUCAUUAUUAUUAUUUCUUUUAUUAUUAUUAUUAUUAUUAUUAUUAUUAUUAUUAUUAUUAUUAUUAAUUUCAAUACCCAACAACAGCUUAACCUAUUUCUCUUCCAAGCCAUCAACGUCCUUUUCUUCCUCAUUGUUUACCAAAAUACUAUUUACUUCCUUUCCUAGGUCAAUGUGCUGACCAUUUCUUAGUUUUUUUUUUCAACAUACAUCUUUCAUCAUUUUUUUUCUCCUCUCUAAAGUCAAAACUUUUAAUCUCCAUACUCACAAAUUUUAUGUUAUUUUCACAUCCGAAACUAUAUAUAUAUAUAUAUAUUUAUCUAGAUCUAUUCGUUUGAGCAAUCAAAAUUUGUCGAUCUCCAUUAAUAAAUCAAACUAUGUUCAUAUUUUUUUAAAUAUUUUUGACCUAAAUUAAUUAAACGAACUCUAAUCAAAGAAUAUCUAUAGUGUUCAAAACUAAUUAACGAAUAUAAAAUAUUAAUUUAAGUAUUAAAAAUCUUACUUGAAAAAUUGAUCUUCAAAUCCUAAACCUUCAAAUCUUAAACCAUAUGCUCUCUAAUAUUUCUGGUCUCUAUGUAAAAGGGUUUUCUGAAUAGAGAGGAUGGGAAAAGUCUAAUUUAUACCUAGGAGUUUUAAAUAAGAAAAUACCUUUUUGCCCUUAUUAAAUUACUUAAUUAAUUAUUAAUUUCUAAAUUAUGAUUUUACCCCUAAAUUGGGUUUAGGGCAUUAUAUGCACACUAUUCCCACUUUUGCAAAGGUUGCGCACCUGAGAAAACUCCUUUCAAUGAUUUGUUCACUCACCAAAGUAAUGCAAGCAUCUAAGCCUUAAGUCAUCAUCUAUACUAUCAAUUCUCCCAUACUGAUUGCAUUGAAAGCUAAGUGCAACCACCAACUCCAAGUUGACAAGUCAAGUACAAGAAAGAUGGCUAGUUGACUACAUUGACACAUGAUCUGAUCCUCAACAUGGGCAAGAGGUAGUUCUAGGAGAAUAGUUUGAGCAAUAAGAAUGGAUUACCUAAAGGGAAACCCAUCUAUAAAUAGAGGAUUGUUUGGGCGCGUGCACACAUACACACACACACACACACAUAUAUAAAUAUGUAUGUAUGUAUGGGGAGAAGAAAAAAAAAAGGAAUGUUGAAGAGUUUGAAUCUUUAAUGGAGGUGAUAUUAACCUUCUUAGGAUUUAGUUAGGAAUUUAAUUUGGUAAUUAAAAUGACAAUUAAUUAUUUGGAUAGGAUUUGUUAGGUAGUUUCCUAUUUCUUUCUAUAUAUUUUCCUUAUUUUUAUAGGUUUCCUAUAGUUAUAUAAAUAGAGAACAUUUUCUCUUCUUUUCCCUAUGAAUGAAUAUAUGACUAGGUAAAAUUAAGCUACACGUUUCUUAAUGGUAUCAAAGCCAAAUUCUAAUUACUAGGAAUAAUGGUUAAAAUAGCAAUGAUAGAUGCUUCCAAUUAUGAUAACAACUUGAAGGAGGCAGAAAGAAAACCUAUCCCUCAUUAGAAUUUUGUGACCAAUGGUCAUGGUCACUCUUCUUAGCUAAUUACCUCUCACAAAUUAACUUAAUGGAGAAAAUUAUCUUUAAUGGCCUCAAUUUGUCAAACCUUUCAUUCAUGGGCAUGGACAAAUUGAAUAUUUUAUUAGAGCAACAUCAAUACCACAAGGAAUAAUUCUCAUCAAGACAUAGGAAGUAGAUAAUGUCAUGAUUAUGUCAAGGUUGAUCAACUCAAUGGAACUCAAGAUUAGGAAGACAAACACGUUCAUGACCAUAACUAGAGAGAUUUAGGAGGCUACCAAGGAAACCUAUUACGACUUGGUAAUUUGCUCAGGUCCACGAGAUAGCCAUACAAAUAAAAAAUACUAAGCAAGGUAAUAUGAAUGUAAUUCAGUACUAUAAUACACUCAAAACUCUUUGGUAAGAACUUAAUUCGUUCUAUGAUUAUGAAUAACAUUGUGCAUAAGAUAGUGAAAUGUUCUAAAAGAUGAUUGAGAAGGAUUGAGUAUUUGCAUUCCUAAUGGGGUUUAAAUAAUAAAUUAGAUGAGGUUUACCUCUUUACUUAACAUUACCCUAGUUAUUACAAAACCAGUAAGCUUCACAUUUCAGCCAAUGAUCCAAAAUUCAAAAGGAUUCAUGGAAGGCCCUAGUGUGACCUUCAUCUCCUUUAAAUGCUUCCAGAAUUCCAAAUAUUCAUUGACAAGUGAUUAACCAUCAUCUUUUCCAAAUGCAUCUUUAGAUGUCAUAUACCCAAAGGUGUUCAAAUUCGUAAGAUAUUAACCAAGUCUAGAUAUUAAAAAGGUAUAUCAUCCUCUACCAUUAGAAAGAAGAACAUACAUUAUCCUCUAUUAGUGAAAGCACAUAUGUCAUCAUCUCAACAAAUCAAGCAUGCGUGCAAAUUUGUCUUCUUGGUCUUCUAAUUAUGGUCAAGCAAGUAUUAAUGAAGUACUUAGUUUGAAGCAUCUGUUUAUCAUCUAUAGUGGUUGUAGUUGCUAAUCCAAUAAUUGCACUCCUUUGAAAGUGGUACAAAUUAUUCUUCCUUAUUCCUUGCAUCACCACAAGUUUACUUGGCAUAACUUUCAAAAUCCCAUAUUUUAUAGUAACAAUAUUGAACCCUAUGGGAUCUAAUACUCCAAUUGAGAUGAGACACUUAUUCAUACUAGGAACAUACCAAACAUCACUCAAAAUUUUAGUUGAUUCAUCAUGAGUCUUCAACUGGAUGGUAUCUAUUAUUGUUAUCUCACAAGCAUUAUCAUUCCCCAUGUAAACAACUCCAUCUUAUAGUUCUUUAAAGCAAGAAAACCACUCCUUGUAAGAAUGCAUGUGAAGGUGGACCUAAUAUCCAAAAUCCAUUCAUCUAAGUUAUAAAACAAGGAUAAGCAAACCAAAGCAAAGUUUGACCCAUCUUCUCCAAACUUAGCCACACAAGCAUCGAAUACUAUUUCUUCUUUAUUCUUAUUUUGUAGCUUAGGACAAUCAUUAUUCUGACACUACCAAAAAUUAAGUAUGGUUGAACCAUUUAUAUUUACUUUUCUGACAUAUUUAAGUUGACGCAAAUUGAAUUGUCUGUCGCUUAUAUGUAACUAUUUACCAACAGUAAUUGCAACAACAAAUACCUGUCGGCAAAAAUAUUAUUGCAAUGGAUUUAAACCAUUGCAAAUGUUCAACUAAUAUACUUUGUUACAAAAGCAAUUUACCUAUAAAAUAGAAAAAAAAUAGUUUUAUUAUAGUGGAUAAUAAUACCACACAUAAUUUGUUCCAAAAAUAAUUGUAGUCAUAUGAAUAUAAAAUAUUUUCACCAUAGUUGUAUGAUAAAUACGAUAUAGCUAGUGACAAAACAAUUUUAUGAUUAUUUUUUUAGGUUCAUACAAUAUUUACAUUUUUUUUAAUCAUAAUGGUUUUAACAUUUUAAUAUUUUUUAACUACUUUUAAUUGUCCAUUUUAGAAAGAAAUACAUUAAAUAUAUAUAUAUAUAUAUAUAUAUAUAUAUAUAUAUAUAUAUAUAUAUAUAUAUAUGUAUGUAUGUAUGUAUGUAUGAUAUAAUUUAUGAUAUCGAAUAAUAAUAUUUAAAAUUUAAAAAUACAUUUUAUAGAGAUUUAUCUAAUUUGAAUGUAUUCAAUAACAUAAAAAAAAUGAUAGUACAUGUAUAAGUAUUUUUAUUUUAAAAUGUUGAUAAUUUUAUUUAUAAAUUUAUAUUUAUUUUAUAUUUAAUUAUUAUACAAAAUACACAAGAAUCAAAAUUAAUUAAUUUAUAAUAAAUUUAUUUUAAUUAAUUUAUAUAUAUAUAUAUAUAUAUAUUAGUUCAUGCAUGUAUAAUUUAUAUAUAAUAUGUAUUUAUAUAUAGAUAAUAUUUAUUAUAUAACUGCUUAAGUAUAUAAUAUUUCCAUUUAUGAAUCUUAUAUACAUUCUUUAUAUUACACAUAACAAAGUUGACUUGGAGGCACAAUUGCUUCCUUUCAAACUUGAGGUCAAGGGUUCAAUCUCAAGAAACAAUAUCCAAGCCAAUAUCCAAAACUAGCAAGGAGAGGAGUGUACAAGAUGCUCCAUGUGAAUGUAAUGAAAUCGAAAUUUCAUGAAAACCUAAAAUCUUUUAUUACUUAUAUUUCUCAACCAACUUAAUUUGUUGGUAAUAGUGAUGGUCUAAAUCCAUUGGAUAGUUUGUCGCUAAAUAUUUUUUAUUGGCAAUGGAAAAUUCCCAUCAAUAGACUUUUGCCAACACACCUUUCCUCUCCUACCAUGCGAUGGGAUUAUCAAUUGGUAAAUGUUUAUUUUGACUGUGCAUAUUAGUCGAGAAAAGUCAAAUUUCUUGUAGUGCAAUGACCCUUGUCAUGAAAAAAGACACAUUCAUCUUUUGCAAGUAUACAUUUAAAUUAAGAAUUGUCUUCUUUUCUAGGUUUUCAACUUUGAGAUUAGUCAUUAACUGUUAAAGCUUCCAAUGAUAUAUCUCUAUGAUCGCUAUGGUCCUUCUUCCUUUAUUUAGAGCUUAGCAAAGUGGAACACACAACAUUGAAAGUAAUCUUAUCCUUACCAUAAAGUAAGGUGAUGGUAAGAUCUUCAUACACAUCAAGAAACAAAUUCAAUAACAAUAAGGCCUUAUUCUCAUCUUCAAUGAUCUCAUCUAAAUUCAACAAAUUUGCUUCGAUUCUAUCAAAUGCGUGCAUAUGAUCAUUCAUAGACAUAUCUAGUUGAUACUAGAAGCAAAAAAGUUUUUUCUUCAAAUAUAGUUGAUUUUCUAGACCUUUUUUUUCAUAUACUUGUCCUCCAAUGUCUUCCAUAAAUGUUUUUGUGGAUAUCUCUUUCAUAAUGGAAUAAUUUUAAGCUUUAACAAGAUAUAAGUGGAUGGAACUAUAAAAUUGGCAAUUGAUCCCUUACCCAUUCUUUAGCAUUCAUGUUUUCAAGUUUUUCUUCCAAACCAAUAUCCAAAUCCUAUUGACAUAUCUAAUUAAUGCCUCUUAUUGCCACAUUCCAAAAGUACUAGUCCUAUCAAAGUUUGCAUUAUUAACCAUAGUUUUAACUAACGAAGUUUUUACCUUUUCUUUUAACUAGUGCAAUAACAAAUAACCUUGAAACCAACCUUGGAUAGAACUACUGCUCUUAUACCAUUUUGUUGUGCUUUAACCUAAUCCCACAAGACUUCCAAAAGUACCAAAUAAAAUACAAACUAAACUAGUCUAUAAUAUAAAGAGAAAUAUCAAGAGAAAUAAAAAUAAAGGAGGGUACACAAUAUUUAUGAGGUUUAGUAAGGAUGUCUUACCUAUAUCAUCAGACAAUGAUAAUCAAUCCACUAAUCUUCAAAUCAAAAUUACAAAAUCAAGUUGGGAAAGAUUGUCUCACAAAAUGGCUGCAAUUACAAAGAUUGACUGAAGCUACUCUAAUAACUUUGCUAAAGUCAUUCUCACACUACUAUGAUGAAAAGACGUAAGACUCAUUUAUAGAACCUAAAUAAGUCCCCGAGCCUUGACAAAACUAAUUCAUAAUUCCUAUGGACAAGGACUCCUAACAUAUAACAAAUUAUGAAAUCAUAAUCCUUAUAGGACAAGGAUCCCUAAAAUAUAUUAAACUCUUAAUUGAGCUAAAAGCCAAUACCUAAUAUAGAAGCCACACCAUAUUUUCCAUAACUCUACUAUGUAGAUGGUUGUUAAGAAAAAUUAUCACUUCCAAAAGUUAAAUAACCAUUUAUUUUUCCUUCCCUUUCCAUUCAUCCAGACAAUAACAAUAAAAAAUGUAGUGUAACUUUUGUUACUUUGCUACUUGUUCUCUCAAGUUACUUGCCUACUUGCGAAUGACCUCCACAAUCAAAUUAAGUAAAUGGAGAAAUAAUGUGGAGUUCCAAGAUAUAGGUAGAAAAGAGUGGAAAACCCCUAGUUCUACAAAAUAGUUUGCAAUUUUGUCUCUAGAUCUCUCAUUUUCGUGGUAAUGGCCAUUGAAGAUGUCAUCACUGAGAAGAUCACAAAGUGAAGAAGGCAUGACUGAGAGUUGGUAGAGUAGAGAGUUAAGGUAGAAAAUAGCAAAGAUAGGAUUUUGACGUUUUUAGAAUUUGUAGAUAAAAAAUAAAUACAAUCCAAAAAUCACUUUCAGAACAUGAUUUUACCUAACCAUGCCAAACAUAUAUUUUUUUUAUGUGGUUUGUAUUUGAUGUUCUCGAAAACAUUGAAUACAUUUUGGAUUGACUAUUAAACACAACCUUAGUAAUUAAAUCAGCAUAUUGAUAAAUUAUCAAGAGGCUCUUAUCAAUUUGGUCAACUCUUAGAAAAGUGUUGUUGAAAACACUAAAUACAAUCUAUAUAUUUAAAAAAAAAAUUGAAACAUGAAUUUACUUGACCAUACCAAACACAUUAUUUUUUAUUUGGAUUGUGUUCAAUAUUUUCAAAAACACUAAAUACAUGCAAUUUGAUUAACUAAUGAACAUGAACUUAGUAAUUAAAUUAGAAAUUUCAAAUGAAUUAAUGUCUUUUAUUUUGCAAGCAAAUCAUGAUUUUUUGUUUUCUACUAAAAUUUUGAAUACAUCACUAAAAGUAACAUCACCACUUUCUGGUUAGAAAGUUUUAAGAAGAUAUUUUUUAUCAACACAUAUUGUUGUUUGCUUUGAUGUCAAGAUACCAAAUCCUUUUUUCCUAAAAUUUUUCCUUUUUAUGCAAAUAAUAAAGUGUGGUUUUUUUCUUGAUUCAUUUUUUAACAUAGUUUUCCAUUCUACAUUGUUAAUAUACCAACACUUUUCAUUUUUUCUUGAAUUUUGGAUGUUCCUUCAUUAUUUGAUGAACUAUUUCCUUAGCCACAACCAUGAUGACCAUGACCAUGACAAUGAUUAUUUGGCUUCCUUCAUACCAAAUUUUUUCCCUCUUGUUGAUAUAUUAAACUUUGUUAACAAUUUUCUUUUAUUUAUAUAUUGAGUCUAAUACAUCAUACUUCCAAGGGUCAUAUUGAUGUCACUCAACUUCAAGCUACUUUUGAGUUAACUAUAUUACUAGGUAUAUGUGCAACAUUAGGUUGAAUUAGGGCACAAGGAAUGGCUACCACAUGUAUGCUAGGUGAAAUAUUAGAGUGUUUUUUUUCUCUUUUCUUUUUUUGUCAAGGUUAAGGAUUUGAGUAACUAAAGCCUCUAUAAAGUCUUUGAGGUAUCCACUAAGAAGCACAAGGAGUGUCGCAUGGGGGCUUGGAAGAAGAAUGUAAGUUACUUGUAUCUUGUUUUUAUAUUUAGUAGAUUGUUUGUGGUUGAUAAACUAUUCAUGUAACGACCUGCUCCCAACCAUGUAGAUAUUGUCCACUUUGGACCCAAAGGGGCCUUCAUGGCUUUAAAACGCCUCUACAAAAUUAAGAGAAGUCCAUACUUAUAUAGCGCCAAGAACUUCCCCCUCUAUCUGAUGUGGGAUGUUAAAAACACCCCUUUCCCCAUGUAGACACAAUGUCCUCGUUGUGUCCCACGGGAUUGCGGGGACAAACAAACCCCUGAACUAAGGUUGAAGAUUGACUUUGAUACCACUUGUAACAACCCAUUCUUAACCGGGUAGAUAUUGUCCGCUUUGGACCCAAAGGGGCCUUCAUGGCUUUAAAACGCAUCUACAAAGUUAAAAGAAGUCCAUACUUAUAUAGCGCUAAGAACUUGCCCCCUAUCCAAUGUGGGAUGUCACAAACACCUCCAUCCCCCACCCCAUUAUAUAAAUAUAUUAUUAUUAUUACUUUCAAAAGACCCUGCAACACCAUUACUCCAAGCCACCAACUACACCCAUUAUUAUUAUUAUAAUAAUAACAUUUUUUUUCUCUUGUUUCUUCCUUCUUGGACAUCCACACACAUCUUUUUUUUUUUUUUAUGACAUCCCACAUUGGAUAGGGCCAAAGUUCUUGGUGUUAUAUAAUUAUGGACUCCUCGUAACCCUGUAGAUGUGUUUUAAAGCCAUGAGGGCCUCUUUGGAUCCAAAAUGAACAAUAUCUACAUGGUUGGGAGUGGGUCAUUACAAAUGGUAUCAAAGCCAAUCCCCAACCUCGGUGUGGGGUUUGUUUGGCCCCGUAAGGGUAUUUGUUUGUUUGACCCCACAAUCCUGUGGGACACAACGAGGACAUUGUGUUUGCAUGGGGGUUGUUUGUGACAUCCCACAUCAAAUAGGGGGGAACGUUCUUGGCGCUAUAUAAGUAUGGACUCUUCAUAACCUUAUAGACGUGUUUUGAAACUGUGGGGGCCCCUUUGGGUCCAAAGUGGACAAUAUCUACAUGGUUGAGAGCGGGUCAUUACAAAUGGUAUCAAAAUCGAUCCUUGAUCUCGGUGUGGGGUUUGUUUGGCCCCAUAAGGGUGUUUGUCUGUUUGACCCCAUAAUCCCGUGGGACACAAUGAGGUCGUUGUGUGUGCAUAGGGGGAGGGGUGUUUAUGACAUCCCACAUCGGAUAAGGGGGAAAGUUCUUGGCUCUAUAUAAGUAUGGACUUCUCGUAACCUUGUAGAUGCAUUUUAAAGCUGUGAGGGCCCCUUUGGGUCCAAAGUGGACAAUAUCUACAUGGUUGGGAGUGGCUCGUUACAAUUCAUGGAUUUUUACACCCAAAAGGUUUUAAGCAGUUUUUUCAUGUUACAUUUUGUGUCAUACGUUUGAUUGAUUAUUCCUAUUCAAAGAAUUGAUGAAAACUUAAUUAUAAUUGAUAUAGCUAGGUGUUUAGGAAUGUUUCUAUUUAAAGUGCUUUUAAUUGAUUGUUUUUUUAGAAACAUUUUUUAAAGAAUCACCUCUCAAGAGCUUCUCAAAAAAGCAUUACAAGUGAUUUUUAACUUUUUAAAGAAUGUUUUCUAUGUUUUUCCAAGUGUAUAGUUUUUCUCUAAAUUUUUUAUUUUUAUUUUUUAAUACCAGAAGCAUUUUCUAAAAGUACUACUAAAUGGACUCUUAAAUUUUGAGGAUAUUUCACUUAGACAACCUAUUCAUCCCCCUCACUAUGUAGUUUUGUGUCUCAAGAUAAAAGUUCUCUCCUUUAUUUUAACAUAAUCUUUGUUUGAAGAAUUGUAUUUUUACUUGACUUUUGUUUUUAAUAUGUCUUCCAAGGCUUUUAAUGAUCCCAUAAAUUGGUCAAUGGCUAUAGAAUCCAAAUAUUUAGGCUUUUCAAUAACAAGAAAAUAAAAGAUGAAAACUUUUUUUUUUUUAGUUACACAAAUAUCAUCAAACUUUCACCAUUUAUUUUUACUUAAUUUACAUAUGUCAAUAUUUUUGAAAAAUAAUAAAAGAUUCUCUUAUAUUUAAACUUUAAAAUUCACUUUUAAAAGUAUGAAAUUGAACUUUAAAAAAAAAAAAAAACUUAUCAAAACUUUUAUAUUUAUUUGUAAUAUUUUUCAUGUUUCCUUUGACCUGGUUGCACUUAAAAUCAUUUCAAAGUUGUCUACAUCUAUUUCUUAAUAAAUGAGGUUAAAAGCCUUCUUGUCUUUCUUUCUUAUAUCUUCGAAAAGUUUAUUUAAUUUUGGGAUAGAUUGGUUUUAUCCAAUAGCUCCUUGUAGUUUUUCUCUACAAUCUCUUAUAUAUAUCUUGCAACCAAAUAAAACCUUUGUCUUGAUAUUCAAAUCGUCAAAAUUGUUAAAACUGUCUUUAUUGAGUUAAGCAACUUAAUUGAAUUACACGUCUUUUGAAAAAUAAAAUAAAAUAAGAAUCUUAUUAUAUGCAUAAAUUUCAUGAAAGUCUUGCAACAUAUAGGGGGUAGGCCUUGAAGUUAUAGUGAUAAUUUAUUCUACUAAAAAUUUUGAUCUCUACAUUGAUAUCAUUUUUUUAGGAGUAAUAGGGAUAAAUACACAAAUAAUAGUACUAUUAAAAGAGAUAAGUAGAGGAGAAAAUUAAAAGAAAUUUUUUGUGUUUUUAAUACUUUAAUUGAAGUAUUAUAUACACAACUCCAAUUACAAUAUGUUUUAAUUCACUUUUAAAAACUAAAUCAAAUGUAAUUUUUGAAAACUUCUUGAAACUCAAAUUUAGAUUUCAAUGUGUGAUUGAAUGAUAGGGAUGGUAAAAAAUAGGUAAAUAAAACAUAUGUAAUAUUAUUGUAUAUUAUUAAUUGCUUCCAUACCAUUAGCAUAUCAAUGGCAUCUUGCUAAGAAGAAGAACCACCGACAACAGUCCAUUAUAAUAGUUUCAGAAUGAAUGACAUUUAUUUGUUUGUAUUAUAUUGUUUUGCUAUUUAGGCCAUAUUCACAUGAACUGACUUUUUGUUUGGAGUAGUGUUUUAGUAGAGUAUUCAUAGUACACCUAGAUAUAGCCUAUGGGUUGCAUUAAUUAAUGGUUUUGGACCAACUUAACAAAAUUCUAUGCUAUCAUAAAUGCCAAAUUUUGGCACCCCUUGCCAAAUUUUCGCAUACCCUGCCAAAUUGAUGAUUUUGCCUUGCGAAAUGCUUUGUUUUCCUCCAUCUUGCUAAUGAUAGUUUUGGCAACCCCUUGCCAAGUUUGACAAGGGGUUUUGAAGUGCUCCAAAGCUCGGAUUCUUCAUGUGCUCCAAACUCUCCCUCAAUCUUGGCCUAUUUCAGUGAUCAAAAAGCUACUAAAAACACUAAAACUUACCAAAAAUUGGUUAGUAACAUUUGCUAGGUCCUUAACAUGCCAAUUGGGAUAAAAGGUCUAACUACUACUCAAAAGUGCUUAAUACAAUUAAGUUUACGCUUAUAAAAAUGCACUUUUUGAGUAGUAAUCAAUAAAGUAGUUGAUUGCCCAUGAUUGCGCAAUGCCAUCAUAAAGGAACCGAAUGCCCAACACACGUACAUGUGAGGUACCAUAUUUUUUAAGAAAGACAAGUCGGUUUGCAAUUGAUGUUAAUAUCUUUCCAAGGCAGAAACAUCAUUUUGUAGGCAUAAUUGAAUUAGUUAAACUUAAACCCCAAUUUGCAUUCUUUCAAGUAAAAUUAUUUUUAACCUAUAAUGCUCAACACUUUUAUGAGAAUCAUAAAAGUAUCAGAAUCAUAGAGAAUUAUUGAAAGUGAUUUUGUAGUGUUGUUGAUAAUAUGUCACAUGACUAUAAAAAUGCUUUUAAUAUUAGUAAAUUAUCAAAAAGGACAUCAAAUUUAAUUUCAAGGAAAUAUUAUAAUAAACUAAUACUUUUUCAUGAUAAAAGAAUUUAUAAACAUUUAUAGUAAAAGAAUAUAUAAACAUCUAUUUUACUAACAAAAACUAAAAAAUAAUAGUUCUUGCGAUUACAAGAAAAUUUUAGAAAAUAUUUGCAACAUGAUUUGGAUUAAUAGACAAACAUCAAUCCUAAUAUAAUAAUUUUUAAAAUAAAAAAAUCAUUUGAUUAUUUAUUCACUUAAAAAUAAUAAUUUUUUAUUACUACAAAAUUUUGAAAAAUACUUACAAAAAAUCUAGAUUAAUAAUGAAAAAUUGAAUAAAAACAUAUUAGUUUAGUUUCUAAAAAAAAAAUAGUAAUUAAAAGCAAAUGAGAAGACAAAUUUUCUCAUAGUAAAAAAAAUGAGAAAAUUAUAUAUAUAUUUUUUCAUAUUAGUGUUAUAAUAAAACAUCAACAAGAUAUAAAAUGACCAGCAAUUCGAUCACAUUCUUCUUACAUCUCUCUUACAUGAUAGAACCGUCUUUCUCAACUCAUGAAUCCACUCUACUCUCUUUUUUACUAAAGCAAAUGUAACCCUUGAUCAUCAUCAUAAGGUUUAAAUUUCAUAUCUAUCCUAGCAUUAAUCAUUAUUAAGUUGUAAAAACCAUCAAAGUAAUAACAAUGUUGACUUAUUUUUCAAGAGAAAAACUAUGCAUUUCUCAUAUUGUUCCACAUCUAUUCUUCAAAAAGGCAAAUGUUCAAUUGUUCUCCUCAAAGAUAUCUAUGGUUAAAUAUUUCCUUCUUACCUCUUGGUAAACUACUCCAUCGAAAUCUAGAAGAUGGUAACACUCGCCCUUCAAGGGCCUAAUUAUAUUAUCCAUUCAUUUAAGGAUAACCAACAUUAAGGUAGAUAAUAUUUACCUACAAAAAAAAAAUUAUAUAAGAUUAUGAAAAUCUAAUCACAAAAGUAACUUUCAUAUUUUUAGUCACUAAUCUCUAGAAGGAUGAGGAAAACCUAAUUCUAGCAUUAUUUUUAAUGCCUAUGAAAAGAUGCAUGCAUCAUGAGCAAAACCUUCCCAUCUAGCCAAUGCAAAUGUGAAAUACAUAUUGAAAUAAUAUAUGACCAUAAUAUUUUAGGUAGUUAUGCUUUUUGUACCAAUAUAUGAUAUUUGCCUAUCUCUAAAAACCAUAAUGGGCAUAUGAGUUCCAUUAAUUACCCCUAUACAAUUCUUAAAAUAUGGUCAAUAACAUCAACAUUUCUUAUUUUAUCAAGGGUCUCCCUAAACUAUGAAUCACUUGGUUUUAAAAUAUCCAUAGCUAUAAGACAAACAACAUCUAAUAUAAUCUCAAACCAUCUAGAAAUAAAUUCAUUGGAGUGCUAAAAUCUUUCUUAGGUCGUCAUGUUGUCAGGUCUAUGAACUAUUGUAGUGAGAAACAUUGCUAAAGCCUCUAUUAAGGGCAUAUCUAAACCUUCUCUUAGACCAUGCCUUUUAAUAAGUAUUUCACGACCAAAAGUAUUUCCUUGGGGUUCUCCUACAAAAGUAUCCAAUUUAUUAUAUUUCACGACCAAAAUAUAAAUUAACUAAAUAAACUUAGUAAAAAAAUAAAAAUGUAUCUUCAAUUUAUUAUCCCACCAUUCAUUUUUAGCAUUAGUGGUUUGCCUCAUAAGAUCCCACCCAAGGCCAAUCUUUUUCUGAAUCAAGGCAUUCCAAAGUUGUCAAUAUUUUUUAAGAGAACUUAAUAUAUUCUUAGGUUGCUUAUAUUGGUAGGUUCUUCUAGGUAGAUUGUUGAAUACCUUUGUCACUUUUUUCCAUCCAAUUUACUAAAGUGACUAUUUGGUCUAUUUUUAGCCAAAAUCUUAGCAACACAAACUGUGAGAUAUGCAUUAACAACAAUAUCAUUCAAUAUACUUUGCUUUAUUGAUCAUUUUCUUUACCACUUGUUUGUUGUAGUGGUUGAACUAUACUGUUAGACAUCUAAUAACAAAGUAAAGAACAAAGAAGUAUUAAAAGAAAAUGUUGUCAAUGUACUUUUAUAUUUUAUAGUUUAGACAUCUAAUGAGAACCAUAAAAAAGUGAACCUUAAAGAAAUUGGUCAACUAGAGGAAUAUGAAUCUUGGAAUACUGAAUAGGAAAGACUCACAUUCAUGGAAUAAAUUAAUAUAUAAUAUUGUAAUUUUAUUAAUUCUUUUCAUUAGGUUGCUAAAAGUUGAAAAAGAAUUCCUCAUGAAACGGAUUAAAUAAUUUCCUCAUGAAAGAAUCCAAUCAUGGCCUCAUUAUGAAGUACUGAAUUAACUCAAUGAACUUGAAUAUCAUCUAAUAAAUUCUUUCAUGGGUUUGUUUUUAUAACUUUAAUGUUACCAAUAUAGAAAGAAAUGAAACAUGUUUUAAAUAAUGUAAGAAACUAUGGUAGAAAAGUGGAAAUAAUUAAGGAUAAGAGGCUUUAUAUGAACUUUAAUAUUGUUAGUAACAGAGAGGCAAAUGAGAUAUCUCAAUAUUAAAUUAUGCAUAAUUAGUAUAAUUUUUUAAAAAUAAAUGGAAGAGAAUUUAGGAGGAAAAUAAGUAAUUAGAGUAUGAGAUAACAUGAAUGCUUAAAAUUGUCAAUCAUUAAAUUUAAGAUAAUUGUUAAUAUUUCACUACAUUUUCCAACUCCAUGAAUUAAAGCAAUGGGAGGAAAUGAGUUGGAUUUCUUAAUAGUAUUAAGUGUUGGAUUGACACAAAAUUAGGGUGCUAGUGGACACUUGAAAUGAGGACCAAGUAACAAUUGCAGAUAGCAUUUUACUCAUCCAACAUAGUUAAAAUUUUCAAAACCCAAUUCUUAUUUAGUACUUUUAUUGAAUAUAUGGGUAUAGUUUAACUUCAAAUCUAAUAUGAGUGUACUUUGAAUUUCCUAAAGCUUACAUGUUUCUUCACAUAUUAACAAAGAGAAAAGAUUAACAUUUUUUACAAUUACAAUUUAUUAGGACUCAAGGUUUAUUUCCUAAACUUUUAAAGUGGGGAAAAAAAAGUGUAAGGGAGAAAAAAGGAAAAGGAAAAGAAAGGAAAAACAAAAAGAAGAAAAAACUAUUAAAAGGCAUUAGAAGCCUAAGAUGGGCAUAUCCAUGAUUGAGGUGUAAAUGGGGGUGACAAUUCAUGUUGGUGGAUAGUGUUUGUGUUGUGUCAAAGCCUAGGUGUUCUACUACAUAGCUUAACCCAUCCCCAACACUACUAAUAAUCAGAUUAAGUUAGGUCUUCUAUAUGUCAAUAUGAUUAAUAUCUCAAGAAAAAGAUGUUUUUGUCUCAAUUGACCAAUCUAUUUAGAAACAAAUUUAAAAUGAGUCAAAUAUGGGUCAAACGUCUUUCAAAUAUAAUUAAGUUAAUAGUGGGAUUAUUAAAUAGGUUAAUUCGAGUCAAAUUCGUGUUAUGCAGGUUGACCAAAAAAGUGCUUAUUUAUUAAAUGAGUUAUAUAAGUCGACACAAAAUUUACCUAAACUCAUUUAUACUUGACCCAAACCCAUGAAAAGCGUGUUAGGUUUGUGUAAUGUCGGGAAUCGUAUCAAACUUUGUCAUCCCUAGGUUCAAACAACUCCAAGACCCUAUUUUUAAGGAGAAUAUAUGGACUUGAGAUUGCUACAUUAUUUAGACUAAUCCACACCUACUUAUUAAGGGAAAAAAAAUAAAAGAGGAGAAAUGUAGAGUAUAGGAUGAUGGGACAAGGCACAAAAUGACAAGACGUAGGAUGGUAGGACAUAGGAUGAUAAAAAUCCACUUCAAUUAAUAUUUCCAUAAAUCAAGAGUAAUCAAAUAUUAAAAUAUUUUAUUCUCCUAAUUUAGGAUAUAAUAUCUAUUCUAAAUAAAUCAAGAGCAAUCAAAUAUUAAUAAUAUUUGAUUCUCUUAAUUUAAGAAAUAAUAUUUAUAUUCCUUAAUUUUAGGAUAUUUAUUAUUUAUUUCUUCUAUAAUUCACAAUGCAUUCUUGUAUAAAUUUAUGAAAAGAAAUAAUAAAAAUUCAUUGCUUCUAUUUUCAAAUUAUAAAUUCUUCUUGGUAUUAGAGUUAGAGGAGGAGGCUCAAACUUGGGUUUUCUCCAAAGGUGGUUGAAUACCCUAAAAGACUUGACCUAUCCACACAAACAAUGUCUUACUCUUCAUUCAUUCAUUCAAAAAUAAAAUAAAAUAAAAUCCUUAGUGCUCUAGCUUUCCAUCAACAUUUUUUCUAAUUUGAUUUCAAUCAAGCUAAACACAACAAAUUUUCUACUAUGGGGAAAUCAAACUAUCCUCUUAGCUUGUGGCUUCGGUGUUUGAACCUUUCAUCAAUGUUUUACCCUUUCAUUGGUGUUAUUUUUAGUUUGAUUUUAAUCAAGUUAAACACCAUAAAUUUUCUAGUAUGGCAAAAUCAAAUCAUUCUCUUAGUUCAUGGUGUGUUCUCUAACAUCUCUUAGGUGGAGAAAGACUUGCUAAAGAAUUAAAUAUGAUGAGGAAAGCAAAAGUUUUAUCCUACAAUACUAGUAAUCAAUUAAUAAUAACAUAUUUGUCACUUCAUGAGUUCUCAAAACCAUGAUAAAAGACAUUUUCAUUAUGAUCCUUGGGACUAACAAGAUAUAUAAGGUAUAAACUUCUCUUAAGGAGUAAUUGCUUCCUAUUAUAGUUGAAAAAAAAAAUGAUCUCUUCAAGAAUAUUUAAGAGAUUUCAAAAAUAUAUAUGAUAAUCUCAUGACAAUCAAAAGCUAAUUUCAGACUAAGACAAAGUUUGUUGAUUCACUCAUGGUUUAGGAUAAUGGAAUGAUUUUUUUUAACCUACUAUGCUUUUCUAACCAAUUCAUAGCAACUCUUUAGGGACAUAAGCAAUCACUUACCACCAAAGGGAUGGAAAGAAAAUUUUUAUAGAGUAUGCACAAUUUUUUAUUUGGACAACAUAGUUAUGGUCAUAAUGGUUGAAAAUGCAUAAAUUUUAAUUUGAGGGGAAGAAGCUUUACACUUUCUAUGUGUUACAAUUCUUUUAAAAAAAUAUACUUUUAUGAUUUUAUCAAGUCCUUGUCAAAGGAUAUCUUCAUCAUGUUUUGAGAUAAGCUGGGUGUGCAUAUUCUUUCCCACUCCAAUUUAAGCUUGCAUAUUAAGAGAAAGAAUAAAAUAAGAUAAAAAGCACAUAGGAUAGCAACACGUAGGAUGAUAAAAAUCCGCUUCAAUUAAUAUUUCCACAAAUCAAGAGUAAUGAAAUAUUAAAAUAUUUGAUUCUCCUAAUUUAGGAUAUAAUAUUUAUUUUAAAUAAAAAACAAACAAUCAAAUAUUAAUAAUAUUUUAUUCUCUUAAUUUAGGAAAUAAUAUUUAUUUUCCUUAAUUUUAGGAUACUUGUUAUUUCUUUCUUUGUAUAAUUCACAAUGCAUUCUUGUAUAAAUUUUCUAAAAGAAACAAUAAAAUUCAUCAUUUUCAUUGCCAAAUUAUCAAAUCCUUUACUAAUGACCUUACGAUUAAAAUCUUGUUUGUUUGGUAAGUGUUGAACAAAAUGCCUUAGUAGCUACAAACGUGAUGGAAGAUGUGUGAAAGUUGUUGUGAACUGAGGAAGCUUAAGAAUCUAUUAAGAAGGUUGCUGAGGUGUGAAGAGAUGCUGAAAUUGAGGCUGUAACCAUAAAACAACUUAGUCAAUGAAGCUAAUAGAGUUUCAUAGAGCUGUUAUGCUGUUAUUGUUAUUUUAUAGGAAGUAGCUCUUAGUUCCAGCUAUUUUUUCUACUUUUCUAUUGUUUUCUAUUGCAAACUUGUGUAUAAAUGUUGCAUUGAUCAUUCAAUGAGAGUAGACAUUUUUGUUGUCUCAAAUGCAACUUUUGGUUGUUGCUUCCAACACUCUAGAUUCUAAAACCUAUGGAUUAGUAUCAGAGCCUUCUAUUUUGAAGGACCUGUGAGGAUUGAGUGAAGCCAAAAUACCUUCACACAUAUUGAACUCCAAAGCCAACAUAAACACACAACCUUUAACAGCUUGUAACUAUCAUUCUACAACAAAUAGAUGGAGCCACAAGCUUUUUGUCAGUACCAGUUUUCAAUGGUGAUAAUUAUCAGGCGUGGGCUAUUAGAAUGACAGUCCACCUUGAAGCUUUGGAUCUUUGGGAGGCAGUAGAAGAAGAUUAUGAAGUACCACCACUUGUAGACAAUCCAAGUAUCAAUCAAAUGAAGAUUCACAAGGAAAGAAAAGCAAGGAAAGCCAAAGCCAAGGUUUGCCUCUUCUCUGCAGUUUCACCUUCCAUUCUCACCAGAAUCAUGCAAAUGGAGUCUACUACAGCAAUCUGGAAGUGAUUUCGCAGCAUUUUUGUACAGUAAGGUGUUUCUCCUUCUGACGAUGCACGAUUUAUGCCGCGAGAAGGAAGCUAGAAACCUCAAGGUAGAAGCCAACUUCGCAGCCCUGUGAAGAUAGCUUGGUGUUGCGAAAUAAUUUCGCAGCCCUCUUGAGUGUCUGCGAAAUCUCGCAGACACCAUUUUUCUCCUGCGAAAUGGUUCCUAAAGCUUCCCGAUAUUUGCUACCGACAUUGGGAGAUAUUUUCCAUUAGAUUUUUGUUGUCUAAAUCCCAAAAUACUCCUUGUAAACCACCAAUUACAUGAUUCCUUAGUUUUUAAGUUAGUAAAAAGACUAAAUAUCCAUGUAAUAAUUAGUUUUAUAUUAUGUUCAUAUAUAUACCUCUCGAGAGCCUGUUCUCAGAGAGGAGUUCCUUCUGUAAAAGUUGGGGUAAGCAAGUAAAGUCUCUUUUCUUUCUACUGCCUUACCUUCUCACUUUGUAUUUUUUACUUAUUACUAAGUUAUGAACUCUCUGAGGAGUUUUCCCUAGAGAAUGAGUAACUAAACCUCUAAUUCCUUGGAGCUAAGGUUGCCGGGGGAGGUUCCAAGUGCAAGAAUGCAAAGCUUUGUGGUUUUAGCUAGUAAUGAAGAGGAAGUGAAAUCCUUCAAUGAUUUCUAUGUUUUUAGUUAACUUAAAACACCUUGGAGUCACCUGGGCCAACACUUGGUAAGGCAAGUGAUUUCCAACUAUGGAAAUGCACUAGUUUACCCCUUGCGAGCCUUUGGGAGGUGACUUCAAGGUAGGAUUUUCUAGAAUAGCCAACACUUGGUAAGCUUUUGGACUCCUAGGAGACAUCCAUUAGUUAUCUCUUGCGAGCUUUUGACGGGUAAUCCAAGGUUAAAGAUCACCUUGAAUGGUUAAGGCUUAGUGAGAGGCUUAAACCAUUGCAAGUUGCAUCAGUGAGAGAAUUAAAGUGAAAUCUAAUUGAAGGAGUCUCUGUACAUCACCAGUUAGAGAAUUGACUAUAUGUUGAAUCUCUAAUGCGAGGAAAUGAACCAUCUGACCAAAGCCGUGUCUUUUGCAUGAGGAACCACCCCAGUGAACCUAAAUCUCCAAGGAAUGCUUUUCUUCCUAAAUUAUUCCAAACUUCUGUUAUGUUAGUUAGUUUAAGUCUAAACCUUUACCAAUCAAAGUUUGUGUUUUACUUCUUAAGCUAACCUUGAAAUGAAAGAAGGCCAAUUCACUUGGAAUUGGUAUCAUUGAUUGCUUGUUAAUCAUUCCCAGUGAACGAUCCUAGAGCCACUAUACUAUAGUAGCUUUGUCUUUGCUACCCUAGUAUAUGGUGUAAUAGGUUAUAAAUUUUGUUGAUUACUCCCUCAAUCAAGGAGCACCAGCUGGACGCAAAUCAGCUGAGACACCAAUUGGGCAUGAAUCAAAUGGCGCCGUUGCCGGGGAAUGAGUGUCAAGUUUAUAUUGAUACCAUUUUUGAGCACUUGUGAUUUUCAUCACAAGUUGGUAAAGUUUCUUUCACUUUACUAAUUUUCAUUCUUUCUUUGUUUAUUUAUAAUCUAAGUUUAUCUUUUAAAAUUUAGCCUAGUUUAGUUUUAUUGUUGUAGCCCUGUUUCUUUUGUUUUCUUUUGUUUUCAUUUUUAGUUGCAGAUAAAUACUAGUUGUGUAUGCCAAAGUGGAUACAAGACAGUGGAGGAAGGCUUGUUAAGUGUGAUACACCUCAGAGGGGAGAAUUUGAAGUAAUCUUGAAUAUCAUGGAAUCUACACCUGAAGAUCAGCAUAGUCACCAAGGUCGUCAAGACAAUCUCAAUGAAUUCAGAUCAAUGAGGGACCGUAUGCAUCCACCUCGUAUGAGUGCACCAUCAUGUAUAGUGCCCCCUACAGAGCAGCUAGUGAUCAGACCGUAUCUUGUUCCACUUCUACCAACUUUCCAUGGGAUGGAAAGUGAGAAUCCGUAUGCACACAUCAAGGAAUUUGAAGAUGUUUGUAAUACAUUCCAAGAGGGAGGAGCUUCAAUUGAUUUGAUGAGGCUUAAGUUAUUUCCUUUUACUUUAAAGGAUAAGGCCAAAAUUUGGCUUAAUUCUUUAAGGCUAAGGAGUAUCCGCUCUUGGACUGAUUUACAAGCUGAAUUCCUCAAGAAAUUUUUUCCCACUCAUAGAACAAAUGGCUUGAAAAGGCAAAUUUCAAACUUCCCAGCUAAAGAGAAUGAGAAAUUCUAUGAGUGUUGGGAAAGAUACAUGGAAGCUAUAAAUGCUUGUCCUCACCAUGGCUUUGAUACUUGGCUAUUGGUGAGCUAUUUUUAUGAUGGUAUGUCAUCCUCAAUGAAGCAACUCCUCGAGACAAUGUGUGGAGGAGAUUUCAUGAGCAAAAAUCCAGAGGAAGCUAUGGAUUUCUUGAGCUAUUGAUUCGCGUGUAACUCCAAAUGGGUCAUUUAAUCAAAAACAUUUAUAAAACCUAUGACCUCAUACUAAUGUAGCAAAGCUACUAUAGUAUAGUGGCUCUAGGGUCGAACUCUGGGAUGGGUUUUCAUUCUACCAGUGAUAUACUCAAAAUUAGAAAUUGUAUUUAAUGAUUUCCUUAAUAAAAAACUUAAAGUUUAAAAGAAAAUAAAAUUUGUUUUGAAAGUGUUUGAAACUAAACUAACAUAAACUAAUUAAAAAUGGAAGAAAGAAAGUCUCCCGGAGCUAAGGGUUGCUAGGAUCAAGUUCAGAAUAGAAAGUGGAAAAUUCCGGAUUUUUCUCCUCGCAUUGGGGAUUUAACCUAUAGUUAUUUCCCGAACCGGUAUAGGUUUGAAAAUGAAGAUUUAAUCCAUAAAAGGUCAAUAGAAAUGGUAGUCAAGGUCCAUUAAUGGCUUAAGACACUAUGGGUCUUCACCUUGAAUCACUUUCCAAUGACUCGUACAUGAUAACUAAUGGACUAAUAUGGAUCUAGCAAUAAGCAUCCAUAAAGACCUGAAGCUUACCAUGUAUUGGUCAUUCAAAGUGAUUCUAAGGGAUUUAAAGCAAAACUUUGGAUUUAGAAGCCAUUUAUGAAUUCCAACUACCUGAAUUUAAUGCAUGGAAGCUUUCCACCUUUUCAUCUGGAAUUUUCACCUAGCUUCCUUUACUCCAAGAAACCGAAAGUUUAGCCUCUCAUCCUCCGGGCAAACAUCCUUAGAGGUUGUUUGGCUUCCAAGAAAAAGAAAAUAGUAAAGAACAAAGAGAACGAGAGAGCUCUGUAAAAUUCACAGUGUAAAAACGUAAUACGUAUUCUAUAUAUUCCAAGAGGUGAUUUCCACCCCUUAUAAAGUCUUUACAAAAGCCAAAGCUUAUGAUUGGUUAGUUACAAGGAUAAUAAAGGAAAUUACAUCACAAAAUACAAAGGAAAAUAUCUAAAGUGGAGUCGGCAAAGGGCAGAGCAAAAUUCGCAACACGCAUGGGUUAUGCGAACCAUAUGCGAAUGUUAUGCGAAUUUCGCAUAACCUCUUGUGGAAUGCGAAAUUUUCGCAUAACCUGGAGCAGUUGGCUUCCGAAGGCCAUAUCUUCCUCAUUUCAGAUCCAAAUCGUACACGGUUUGAAGCGUUGGAUUCUUGACUUCCAGAGCUUUGAAAUGGUAUAUAGCAUAUAUAAAAUGGACUUCGGGAAGUGCUCCAAAAGUGUGAAAGAAGACUGCAGCUGCUACAUCUUGAUUUUUUUCACUUUGCUUCUCUUUGCUUCUCUCCUUUGCUUGACUUGUCUUAAUGAUCCAAAAAGCUGUCAAAACAUUAAAACUAGCCACAAAUAUGAUUAGAAGACAUUGCUAGGUCCUUAACAUGCCAAUUGGACUAAAGAUGGAGAACUACUACACAAAAGUGCUUAAAACAUAAUGCAUUAAAGGUGUAAAAUAGCACUUUUUGGGUAGUAAUCAGCUAUGUAGCUGAUGUUUCAAGGGGAUGGGAUGAACCAACUAAAGGAGAAGUGGGAAAGAUGAAGUCUCAGUUGAAUGCUUACAAUGCAAAGGCUGGGAUGUAUACCUUAAAAGAAGAUGAUGACAUGAAAGCAAAGUUGGCAGCUAUGACAAGAAGAUUGGAGGAGCUGGAGCUGAAAAGAAUACAUGAAGUGCAAGCUGUUGCUGAAGCACCAGUGCAAGUGAAGCUGUGUCCCAAUUGUCAGUCUUAUGAACACUUGGUGGAGGAAUGCCCUGCAAUUCCAACUGAAAGGGAAAUGUUUAGAGAUCAAGCAAAUGUUGUUGGACAAUUUAGGCCCAAUAACAAUGCGCCAUAUGGAAAUACCUACAACUCAAGUUGGAGGAAUCAUCCAAAUUUCUCAUGGAAGGCCAGAGCAACUCAAUACCAACAGCCGGAUCCACCAUCUCAACAAUCUUCAAGUAUUGAACAAGCAAUGGCUAAUCUCAGUAAGGUAAUGGGAGAUUUUAUUGAAAAGCAAGAAGCCACUAAUGCUCGAGUCGAUCAAAGAAUUGAUAGAGUGGAGAGUAUGUUGAAUAAAAGGAUGGAUGGAAUGCAAAAUGAUAUGAACCAAAAGUUUGAUAACAUCCAAUAUUCAAUUUCAAGGCUUACAAAUUUGAAUACACUGCAAGAAAAGGGAAGAUUUCCUUCUCAACCUCACCAAAAUCCUAAAGGUGUCCAUGAAGUGGAAAGCCAAGAGGGAGAAUCAUCACAGGUGAAAGAUGUGAAAGCCUUGAUCACUCUAAGGAGUGGUAAAAAAAUUGAGCAGCCAACACCCAAGCCACAUGUUGAGAAAGAAAAAGAGAUAAAGAAAAGGAAGGAAAUGGAAGAUAAAGAGAGUGAUAUCAGUGAAGAAAAGAAGGACUCUGAUGCAACAAUGAAUGCAAUUCCAGAGAAGGAGCUUCUGAAGGAAGAAAUGCUGAAGAAAUCAACUUCUCCACCUUUUCCUCAAGCAUUACAUGGGAAAAAGGGGAUUAGAAAUGCAGCUGAAAUCCUUGAAGUCUUGAAGCAAGUGAAAGUUAAUAUUCCACUGCUGUAUAUGAUUAAACAAGUUCCAACGUAUGCAAAAUUCCUUAAGGACUUAUGUACUAUCAAAAGAGGGUUGACUGUAAACAAGAAAGCCUUCUUGACUGAGCAAGUAAGUGCAAUCUUACAAUGUAAGUCUCCUUUGAAGUACAAAGACCCUAGAAGUCCUACCAUUUCAGUCAUGAUUGGAGGAAAGGUAGUGGAGAAAGCCUUGUUAGAUUUGGGAGCAAGUGCGAAUUUGCUUCCAUAUUCUGUCUACAAGCAAUUGGGACUUGGAGAGUUGAAGCCAACAACAAUCACUCUAUCUCUGGCAGAUAGAUCAGUGAAAAUUCCAAGAGGGGUAAUUGAGGAUGUAUUGGUUCAAGUGGAUAAUUUCUACUAUCCAGUAGAUUUUAUUGUUCUUAAUACAGAUCCUACUGUAAAGGAAGCUAAUUUAGUUCCUAUCAUCCUUGGAAGGCCAUUUCUUGCAACUUCAAAUGCAAUCAUCAACUGCAGGAAUGGGCUUAUGCAGCUCACUUUUGGUAACAUGACACUGGAUCUCAAUAUUUUCUACAUGUCUAAAAAGCAAAUCACUGCGGAGGAAGAAGAAGGUCCAGAAGAGCUAUGUAUAAUUGAUACUUUGGUAGAGGAGCACUGCAAUCAACAUAUGCAAGAAAAGUUGAAUGAAAGUCUUGAGGAUAUUGAGGAAGGUUUUUCUGAAUCUCCUAUUGGGCUUACUACUCUACAAAGUUGGAGAAAGAUAGAAGGAAUUCUACCUUUGUUCAAUAAGGAAGAGGAGGCAGCUGCUGAAAAAGAAAUUCCAAAACUCAAUCUGAAGCCUUUACCUGUGGAGCUGAAAUAUACAUAUCUUGAAGAAAAUAAUCAAUGUCCUGUUGUGAUAUCUUCAUCUCUGACCAGUCAUCAAGAGAAUUGUUUAAUGGAAGUUCUCAAGAGGUGUAAGAAGGCAAUAUGAUGGCAAAUAUCUGAUUUGAAAGGCAUUAGUCCUUUAGUUUGUACUCAUCAUAUAUAUAUGGAGGAGGAAGCAAAGCUAAUUCGUCAAUUUCAAAGAAGGUUGAAUCCUCAUCUACAAGAGGUGGUGCGAGCUGAGGUGCUGAAGCUACUUCAAGCAGGAAUCAUUUACCCUAUAUCUGAUAGCCCUUGGGUGAGUCCUACUCAAGUAGUACCAAAGAAGUCAGGGAUCACAGUGGUUCAGAAUGAAAAAGGGGAAGAAAUUACUACACGCCUCACUUCAGGUUGGAGGGUGUGUAUUGAUUAUAGAAAGCUGAAUGCUGUAACCAGGAAAGAUCAUUUUCCAUUGCCAUUUAUUGAUCAAGUGCUGGAGAGAGUCUCUGGACAUCCAUUCUAUUGUUUCUUGGAUGGGUAUUCAGGGUAUUUUCAUAUUGAAAUUGAUUUGGCAGAUCAAGAAAAGACCACUUUUACAUGUCCAUUUGAAACAUAUGCUUAUAGAAGAAUGCCUUUUGGUUUAUGCAAUGCACUUGCUACAUUUCAAAGAUGUAUGUUGAGUAUUUUCAGUGAUAUGGUGGAGCGAAUUAUGGAGGUUUUCAUGGAUGACAUCACCGUAUAUGGAGGUACAUUUGAGGAAUGCUUGGUUAAUUUGGAAACAGUUCUUCAUAGAUGCAUUGAAAAAGACCUGGUGCUGAACUGGGAGAAAUGCCAUUUUAUGGUACGACAAGGAAUUGUCCUUGGCCAUAUCAUCUCUGAAAAAGGCAUUGAAGUUGAUAAAGCAAAGGUGGAGCUUAUUGUCAAAUUACCAUCUCCAACAACUAUAAAAGGAGUAAGGCAGUUCCUUGGCCAUGCAGGGUUCUAUAGGAGGUUUAUAAAAGGUUUUUCAAGUCUUUCAAAACCUCUUUGUGAGCUGUUAGCUAAGGAUGCUAAGUUUAUAUGGGAUGAAAGGUGUCAGAAUAGCUUUGAUCAACUGAAGAAAUUUUUAACAACAACUCCAAUAGUGAGAGCCCCUAACUGGCAAUUACCUUUUGAAUUGAUGUGUGAUGCCAAUGACUUUGCUAUAGGAGCUGUGCUUGGCCAAAGAGAAGAUGGGAAGCCCUAUGUGAUUUACUAUGCAAGUAAAACACUAAAUGAAGCUCAGAGGAACUACACAACUACAGAAAAAGAAUUGUUAGCUAUGGUAUUUGCUUUGGACAAAUUUCGUGCUUAUUUAGUGGGGUCUUUCAUCAUAGUCUUCACUGACCAUUCAGCCUUAAAGUAUUUAUUGACAAAGCAAGAUGCAAAAGCAAGGUUGAUUAGAUGGAUUCUUUUGUUACAAGAAUUCGAUCUUCAAAUCAAAGAUAAGAAAGGAGUGGAGAAUAUGGUAGCUGACCACUUGUCAAGGUUAGUUAUAGCACAUAACUCCCAUCCCUUGCCUAUCAAUGAUGAUUUUCCUGAAGAAUCACUCAUGUUCCUAGUGAAAACUCCUUGGUAUGCUCAUAUUGCUAAUUAUUUAGUAACUGGUGAAAUUCCAAGUGAGUGGAAUGCACAGGACAGGAAGCACUUCUUUGCCAAAAUUCAUUCUUAUUAUUGGGAAGAGCCCUUUCUCUUUAAGUAUUGUGCAGAUCAGAUUAUUAGAAAGUGUGUCCCUGAAGAUGAGCAGCAAGGGAUUCUAUCUCAUUGUCAUGAGAAUGCAUGUGGAGGCCACUUUGCCUCUCAGAAAACAGCCAUGAAGGUAUUGCAAUCAGGGUUUACUUGGCCAUCUCUUUUCAAAGAUGCCCACAUCAUGUGUAGGAAUUGUGAUAGAUGCCAAAGGCUUGGAAAGCUAACAAAAAGAAAUCAAAUGCCUAUGAACCCCAUUAUGAUAGUUGAGUUAUUUGAUGUAUGGGGCAUUGACUUCAUGGGACCUUUCCCAAUGUCUUUUGGUAAUUCUUACAUUUUGGUGGGGGUGGAUUAUGUUUCUAAAUGGGUUGAGGCAAUCCCCUGUAAACAAAAUGAUCACAGGGUGGUUCUCAAGUUUCUUAAAGAGAACAUUUUCUCAAGAUUUGGGGUGCCCAAGGCCAUAAUCAGUGAUGGAGGUGCUCAUUUUUGCAACAAACCUUUUGAAGCUCUGUUAUCCAAGUAUGGAGUGAAGCAUAAGGUGGCUACACCUUAUCAUCCUCAGACUUCCGGGCAAGUUGAGCUAGCUAACAGGGAAAUAAAGAACAUCUUGAUGAAAGUGGUGAAUUCCAAUAGAAAGGAUUGGUCUAUUAGGCUUCAUGAUUCAUUGUGGGUAUAUAGAACAGCUUAUAAGACUAUUCUUGGGAUGUCUCCCUAUCGUCUUGUCUAUAGUAAAGCAUGCCAUCUCCCUGUGGAAGUUGAAUACAAAGCUUGGUGGGCAAUAAAGAAGCUGAACAUGGACUUGAUCAAGGUAGGAGAAAAGAGAUUUCUAGACCUUAAUGAGAUGGAGGAAUUAAGAAAUAAUGCUUAUAUCAAUUCCAAAGUUGCAAAACAGAGGAUGAAGAAGUGGCAUGAUCAACUCAUCUCCAACAAGGAAUUUCAGGAAGGGCAAAGAGUUUUGAUGUAUGACACAAGACUCCAUAUCUUUCCUGGGAAACUCAAGUCAAGGUGGAUAGGCCCGUUCAUUAUUCACCGAGUAUAUUCCAAUGGAGUGGUGGAAUUAUUGAAUUCCAAUGGCAAGGAUAGCUUUAAAGUCAAUGGAUAUCGUCUCAGGCCAUUCUUGGAGCCAUUCAAACCAGAAAAGGAGGAGAUCAACCUCCUUGAACCUCAAAAAGCUUAAGUGAAAAAGGGUUUGCUGGACGUGGUUUUACCACAGUCCAAAAUUUUUGUAAAUUUUGUAAAUUUUCAAGUUGUUUCCAUACUUUUGAUCUUAGUUUUUGAUCUUAAAUCAUGUUUUUAGGUGUGUUUUAAUUGUUUUGAAUGAUCCCAGGUGGAAGAAAUUUCAAGGAAAUUGAAAGAAAAAAAAAAUCAGGUCGAAAUCGGAGCCAAAAUAGAGUAAAAACAGGGGAAAAACAAAGCUCUGCGAAAUGAGCAUUUUGUUGCCAAACCAUUCCGCAACACUGUAGAAGUCUCUGCAAGGGUAUUUCGCAGUUGCGAAAGCAAAUUUGGCACACGAGUGCCACUUCGCAGUACAGUAGCAUCCAUUUGGCAGCUGCGAAACGCAUUGCGAAGGGAAAAAGCGUGAUUUCGCACCAAAAGUCCCAUUCCGCAGGGUAUUUCGCAAUUGCGAAAGUGGUUUUGGCACACGAGUGCCACUUCGCAGCAUAGGAACUCUCAUUUCGUAGCUGCGAAACUCACUGCGAAGUUGCUGCAAAAAUGGCAUUUUGCUGUGAAAUUGACGUUUUGUUGCGAAACUUAAACUGACCCUUAGGCUUCCAUUUUUCCUAUUUAUACCGAUCAUUUGAGCUGCGAAAAGGGUUUCAAAAAUCAGAGCGCCAUUUUCGCAGACCUUUCAUCUUCUUCCUUGAGCCACGCCGUCCGAGCCUCCGGUCAUCUCCUCCGAUUAGCAACGCCGGCCAAAGUUUGGUAUCCCGAAAUGGCACGAACACGAGAGGCUAAGUCUUCAUCUUCUUCGAACCACAAGAAGAGUCUGCGAAAGGAGCCAAGUCUAGGUUCUGCUCCAGAGCCUUCGCCGUCAAGGCCAAAUCCUCCUCCGGUGAAGCCCGCGCCACCAAAGCCACCUGCAAGACGAUACCUUACCAGGUCAGGAGGUCGGCCAUUGCAGAAGAAACCCAGGGUGGAGAGCUCAGAACCCAUCGAUUUGACUGAGCAAUCUCCAGAGCCUUCACCAAUUCCAUCACCGGUUCAAACUCCAGUGCCGUCUCCAGUUCCCUCGCCUAGUCCCCUGCCAGUUCCAUCGCCGGUACCAUCUCCGGCACCGCAAGAAAAAUCUCAGGAGCCUCAAGCGCCACUUCCCGAGCCCCAAAUUCAAGCUGAAACAGCUCUGGAAGAAGUAAUCUGGAGGCCAAUGCUACCUCAGCCCCCAAUUGAGGGAAACUUGGAUUGUAGAACACGGGCAUUUCACUCCGAGCUUUGCUUUGACUUACCGGCAUUCAGAGUGAGGCUGGAGCUUGCCCAAUCAUUCCAGCUGCUGAGAAGGUACCAUAUGGAGCAACUGCUAGCUCCAAGAGACUUUUUCUAUCCCCGGAUAGCCACGGAUUUCUACCAAUCCAUGACAACCAAAGAGGUAAGGAAUCCGACUUUGAUUCAUUUCACAAUCGAUGGGAGACAUGGCAUAUUGGGAGCACGACAUAUUGCUGAAGCCCUGCAAAUUCCCUUUGAGCCAACCCAAUUCGAUAAUUUUACAGCUUGGGCAAAUCCUACUGAGCUAAAGAUGGUGCGCACCCUUUCCAGAGGAGCUGCAAAUCGAUCACAUCUGUUGAGGGGGGAGCUUCCUCCAGUUAUGUUUUUGAUUGAUGCCUUUUUGCGUCAUAAUAUAUACCCAUUGCAGCAUUGGACCCAAAGAAGGGGAGUCCUCCUGGAAGCUCUUUAUAAGAUGUCAGAAGGAUUUUUCUUUGGGCCUCAUCAUCUGAUCAUGGCAGCCCUUCUCUAUUUUGAAGAGAAGGCUCAUAAAAGGAAGCUUCAGAGAGCAUAUUGCAUUCCCCUCCUCUUCCCAAGGCUGCUAUGCCCAAUUUUGGAGCAUCUGGGAUACCCCUCUGAGCCUCAGCUGGAGAGAAAGCGAAUUUGCCGUGAGCCAUUCACUCUUGAUAAAUGGAAUAAUAUGACGGCCUACAAAGUUGAUCAGCCUGGGCAGCCUCAACCAGCUGCAAGGAGAGCCUCCCCAAGACAUAUACCUGAAGGUAUAACAGUUGCUACUCCUGCCAUUCCUAGAGCUCCACCAGUUGCACCUGCUUCAUUUCAGCCAUCCACAUCAGCUGAGCCGAGGAUGGCCAUUCCUAUAUCUGAAUAUCGAGAGUUGUGCCGUGCAUUGGAGACACUUACAGCUUCUUAGAGCAAUCUUGCUCAAGAGAUGGCAGCCAUCAGAGCAUGCCAAGAGCAGAUGUUAGCCACUCAAGCUCAACAAGCUGCCAUCUUAAGGCAGCUCCAAGACCAUUUCGAUCUGCCACAAGCUGUAGAGUCCUCCACUUCUACUCCAACAGAGCCACACCCUCAUCCUUCAGAGUCUCAUCCUCCUGAGCCCCAAGCCCCAGCUGAUGCACCUACUGAAGAGGUAGAUCCUUCUGCCUAAUCCCAGCACCACCCCACUCAUCAGACUAUAUUAGAUAUCUAAUAUUUUCAUGUAUUUCAUUUUUUUUAGUUGAAAAGAAAUCCCAGUAUUUUGGUACUAUAUUUGGGAUUCCUUGUGUUACUUGUCUUUUGCAUUGUAAUCAAAUGAAUUUAAAGUAAUACAAGUUGAAUAUUUCUUGUUAAAAGUUAGCAUUAAGUUAUUCUUAUUUCCUUUUCUCACAUAUUCUAUUCUUUUUGAAACAUGUGGUUUUCCCCAAUCAAUAUUCGAAUUUGAUUUCAGCAAGGAGGUACCACUUCCUCCCUUUUAUUACAUUCACUCAAAUCACAUUGAGGACAAUGCUCAGUUCGGUUGGGGGGUAUGAGGAAGGAAGUAUUCUAAAUCUUUUUGGUAUUGCAAUUAUAUUGGUUAAUUAGUUGUAGUUUUUACUUUUUACUCUUGUUACUCUAUUCUCCAUGAAUUUUGAGGAAAAAUUUUCAAAUUAAACCAAGAGAAAUUGAACUGUUGUUUUUCACUUGACUUAGAGUAUGGAUUAUGCUUACUAAAGUGGUUCAAUUGUUGAAGCUUCUAUUGAAAUUGAAGUUAGUUCUUCCACUUUAAGCUAUCCACACACUGUGCACAUUAGAUUCCGAUUAUAAGAUGAAAAGCUAUUUCCCUCUUGACUUAGGAUAAUUUUGGGACUUGGUAUAUUUGACCUCAUUUGAUAAAAUUGAAACACCCUGCAAAAGGCCAAUGAGCCUUUGAAAUAAAGAAAGUUGUUUGCUUGCCUUGAAACCCGAGCAAGGUCUGAGGGGUAUAUGGUGAAAAUCUUUAAAGCCUGGUGCCCUAAGCCUUAAUUGGUUGGGAGUCACCGACCUCAAUGCUCGUUAUAAGGGUGAAUAGGUAGAGCUAGCAUAUGGUAGAUGCUUGGGUAUUAGAAUCUCAUUCUUAAAAGUCCGGGGAAAAAUCCGAGGAGUUAGUGGUUGAAAGAUCCUUAAAGCUUGGUGCCCUAAACCUUAAUUGGUUGGGAGUCAUCGAUGGACCCCCAUUACAUGGACAAGUCAGAAAGAGUACCCCAUAAAGCUACCUUAAAAAAAAAAAUGAUGAAAAUGUGUUCUUUUCUUAUUGAUUUUGGUCAGAUUGCUAAAGUAUUGAAAAGAGAUAGGUUGGGGGGAGAGACUAGUUUAGCAUAUUAUUCUCGGAACCUAAGGAACCAAUACACAUAGAUUUUUGUGGAAGAUUAAAGUUUGAUUCUUAGAAAGUGGAAAUGAUUUUAAAACUUCAGUUUGCAUAAUGCACUCCCUUGAUUGACAGUGUUUAGCAUAGGUGUUAUGACUCUUGUUGAGAUUUGGGUUUGUAUUUCUUUACUACUUCAUGUGAGAAUUAGAUCAUCAUGCCACUUGAGAAUUAUUUUCCUUUAGCAUGAUGUUGUAAAUUUUAGAUUAGUUUGCUUUUUAUUUUCAUUUUUCUCUCCUAUAUUGCUAAGGGACUAGCAAUAUGUCGGUUGGGGGGAGUGAUUACUACUCAAAAAGUGCUAUUUGAUAGCCUAUAAUUAAUCCUUUUAAACACUUUUGAGUAGUAGUUUAGGCCUUUUAACUCAAUUGGCAUGUUAAGGAUCCUUUAAAGCAAUUUUAAUCACUUUGUGCAAGUUUUGGUGUUUUUGUUAGUAUUUUGAUCACCAAAGCAAGUCAAGACUGAGGAGAGCUAUGAGGAAUCUUGGGCAAAGCUUAGAAGUCAUUUUCCAAGAGUGAAUCCGGAUUGCAAGGAGAAAAAAGCAAAGAGAAUCUGCCAUAAAGCAUAUUCUUGAUGACAGUCGUAGCAGCCACUUUUGGAGCACUUUCUGAAGUCCAAAUGAUGUAUUCCAUAUACCAUUUCAAAGCUCAGGAAGUCAAAAAUCCAAUGCUUCAAACGGUGCUCAAUUCGGAGUUGAAAUGAAGAAGUUGCAGCCGUUACAAGCCAAUCACUCCGAGCUGAAGGAAGCAUUUUGCAAAGUGUUGCGAAAUCACCCUUUUGUUGCGAAGUGAUUUCGCAGCAUUUUUGUACAGUAAGGUGUUUCUCCUUCUGACGAUGCACGAUUUAUGCCGCGAGAAGGAAGCUAGGAACCUCAAGGUAGAAGACAACUUCGCAGCCCUGUGAAGAUAGCUUGGUGUUGCGAAAUAAUUUUGCAGCCCUCUUGAGUGUAUGCGAAAUCUCGUAGACACCAUUUUUCUCAUGCGAAAUGGUUCCUAAAACCUCCCGAUAUUUGCUACCGACAUUGGGAGAUAUUUUCCAUUAGAUUUUUGUUGUCUAAAUCCCAAAAUACUCCUUGUAAACCACCAAUUACAUGAUUCCUUAGUUUUUAAGUUAGUAAAAAGACUAAAUAUCUAUGUAAUAAUUAGUUUUAUAUUAUGUUCAUAUAUAUACCUCUCGAGAGCCUGUUCUCAGAGAGGAGUUCCUUCUUUAAAAGUUUGAGUAAGCAAGUAAAGUCUCUUUUCUUUCUACUGCCUUACCUUCUCACUUUGUAUUUUUUACUUAUUACUAAGUUAUGAACUCUCUGAGGAGUUUUCCCUAGAGAAUGAGUAACUAAACCUCUAAUUCCUUGGAGCUAAGGUUGCUGGGGGAGGUUCCAAGUGCAAGAAUGCAAAGCUUUGUGGUUUUAGCUAGUAAUGAAGAGCAAGUGAAAUCCUUCAAUGAUUUCUAUGUUUUUAGUUAACUUAAAACACCUUGGAGUCACCUGGGCCAACACUUGGUAAGGCAAGUGAUUUCCAACCAUGGAAAUGCACUAGUUUACCCCUUGCGAGCCUCUGGGAGGUGACUUUAAGGUAGGAUUUUCUAGAAUAGACAACACUUGGUAAGCUUUUGGACUCCUAGGAGACAUCCAUUAGUUAUCUCUUGCGAGCUUUUGACGGGUAAUCCAAGGUUAAAGAUCACCUUGAAUGGUUAAGGCUUAGUGAGAGGCUUAAACCAUUGCAAGUUGCAUCAGUGAGAGAAUUAAAGUGAAAUCUAAUUGAAGGAGUCUCUGUACAUCACCAGUUAGAGAAUUGACUAUAUGUUGAAUCUUUAAUGCGAGGAAAUGAACCAUCUGACCAAAGCCGUGUCUUUUGCAUGAGGAACCACCCCAGUGAACCUAAAUCUCCAAGGAAUGCUUUUCUUCCUAAAUUAUUCCAAACUUCUGUUAUGUUAGUUAGUUUAAGUCUAAACCUUUACCAAUCAAAGUUUGUGUUUUACUUCUUAAGCUAACCUUGAAAUGAAACAAGGCCAAUUCACUUGGAAUUGGUAUCAUUGAUUGCUUGUUAAUCAUUCCCAGUGAACGAUCCUAGAGCCACUAUACUAUAGUAGCUUUGUCUUUGCUACCCUAGUAUAUGGUGUUAUAGGUUAUAAAUUUUGUUGAUUACUCCCUCAAUCAAGGAGCACCAGCUGGACGCAAAUCAGCUGAGACACCAAUUGGGCAUGAAUCACACCCUAUGCCCAUUUAGGCAUCCUCGGUCCAUUUAGACACCUUAGGCCCAUUUAGGCACCCUAGGCUCAUUUAGACACCCUUGGCCCAUUUAGGCACCCUAGGCUCAUUUAGGCACCCUUGGCACAUUUAGGCACCCUAGGCCCACUUAGUAACCCUAAGCCCACUUAGACACCCUUGGCCCAUUUAGGCACCCUAGGUCCACUUAAGCACUCUAGGCCCAUUUAGGCACCCUACGCCCACUAAGACACCCUAAGCCCACUUAGACACCCUUGGCCCAAUUAGGCACCCUAGGUCCACUUAGGCACUCUAGGCCCAUUUAGGCACCCUAGGUCCACUUAGGCACGCUAGGCCCACUUAGGCACCCUAAAUCCACUUAGACACCUUACGCCCAUUUAAGCACCCAAAGCCCACUUAGGCACCCUUAGCCCAUUUAGGAACCCUAGGCUCAUUUAGGCACCCUAGGUCCACUUAGGCACCCUACGACCAUUUAGGCACCCUAGGUCCACUUAGGCACUCUAGACCCAUUUAAGCACCCUAGGUCCACUUAGGCACCCUAGGCCCAUUUAGGCACCCUAGGUCCAUUUAGGUACCCUUGGCCCAUUUAGGCACCCUAGGCCCACUUAGCCACCCUAGGCCCAUUUAGGCACCUAAGGACCAAUUUGGCACCCUAGGCUCAUUUAAGAACCCUAGGCCCAUUUAAGAACCCUAUGUCCACUUAGACACCUUCUGCCCAUGUAGGCACCCUUGGUCCACUUAGGCACUCUAGACCCAUUUAGGCACCCUAGGUCCGCUUAGGCACCCUAGGCCCAUUUAGGCACCCUAGGUCCAUUUAGGCAUCCUUGGCCCAUUUAGGUACCCUAGGCCCACUUAGGCACCCUAGGCCCAUUUAGGCAACCUUGGGCAAUUUAGGCACCCUAGGUCCAUUUAGGCACCUAAGGAUCAUUUAGGCACUCAGAGGCCCAUUUAGGCACCCUAGGUCCAUUUAGGCACCUUAGGGUCAUUUAGGCAUCCAUAGGCCCAUUUAGGCAUCCAUAGGCCCAUUUAGGCACCUUAGGCUCAUUUAGGCACCCUUGGCCCAUUUAGGCACCCUAGGCCCACUUAGACACCCUGAGCCCACUUAGACACCCUCUGCCCAUUUAGGAACCCUAGGUCCACUUAGGCACUCUAGACCCAUUUAGGCACCCUAGGUCCACUUAGGCACGCUAGGCCCACUUAGGCACCCUAAAUCCACUUAGACACCUUACGCCCAUUUAAGCACCCAAAGCCAACUUAGGCACCCUUAGCCCAUUUAGGAAACCUAGGCUCAUUUAGGCACCCUAGGCCCACUUAGGCACCCUAGACCCAUUUAGGCACCCUAGGUCCACUUAGGCACUCUAGACCCAUUUAGGCACCCUAGGUCCACUUAGGCACCCUAGGCCCAUUUAGGCACCCUAGGUCCAUUUAGGUACCCUUGGCCCAUUUAGGCACCCUAGGCCCACUUAGGCACCCUAGGCCCAUUUAGGCACCUAAGGUCCAAUUUGGCACCCUAGGCUCAUUUAAGAACCCUAGGCCCAUUUAAGAACCCUAUGUCCACUUAGACACCUUCUGCCCAUGUAGGCACCCUUGGUCCACUUAGGCACUCUAGACCCAUUUAGGCACCCUAGGUCCGCUUAGGCACCCUAGGCCCAUUUAGGCACCCUAGGUCCAUUUAGGCAUCCUUGGCCCAUUUAGGUACCCUAGGCCCACAUAGGCACCCUAGGCCCAUUUAGGCAACCUUGGGCCAUUUAGGCACCCUAGGUCCAUUUAGGCACCUAAGGUUCAUUUAGGCACUCAGAGGCCCAUUUAGGCACCCUAGGUCCACUUAGACACCAUAGACCCAUUUCGGCACCCUAGGCUCAUUUAGGCACCCUUGGCUCAUUUAGGCACCUUAGGCUCAUUUAGGCACCCUUGGCCCAUUUAGGCACCCUAGGCCCACUUAGACACCCUGAGCCCACUUCGACACCCUCUGCCCAUUUAGGAACCCUAGGUCCACUUAGGCACUCUAGACCCAUUUAGGCACCCUAGGUCCACUUAGGCACCCUAGGCCCAUUUAGGCACCCUAGGUCCAUUUAGGCACCCUUAGCCCAUUUAGGUACCCUAGGCCCAUUUAGGCACCCUAGGUCCAUUUAGGCACCUUAGGGUCAUUUAGGCAUCCAUAGGCCCAUUAAGGCAUCCAUAGGCCCAUUUAGGCACCCUAAGUCCACUUAGACACCUUAAGCCCAUUUAGGCACCCUAGGCUCAUUUAGGCACCGUUGGCCCAUUUAGGCACCCUAGGCCUACUUAGACACCGUAAUCCCACUUCGACACGCUGCGUUCAUCUAGGCACCCUAGGUCCACUUAGGCACCUUAGGCCCACAUAGUCACCCUUGGCCCAUUUAGGCACCUUAGGUCCACUUAGGCACCCUAGGCCCAUUUAGGCACCCUACGUCCACUUAGGCACCCUUAGCCCAUUUAGGCACCCUAAGUCCACUUAGGCACCUUAGGCCCAUGUAGGCACCCUAGGCCCAUUUAGGCACCCUAGGUAACCUUAAGCACCCUACGUCCACUUAGGCACCCCAGGUCUAUUUACGCACCCCUUGCCCAUUUAGGCACCCUAGGCCCACUUAGGCACCCUAGGCUCAUUCAGGCACCCUAGGUCCACUUAGGAACCCUAGGCCCAUUUAGGCAUCCUUGGUCCACUUAGGCACCCUAGGCCAAUUUAGGCACCCUAGGUCCAGUUAGGCACUCUUGACACAUUUAGGCACCCUAGGCCCAUUUAGGAACCCUAUGUCCACUUAGACACCUUAUGCCCAUUUCGGCACCCUAGGUCAACUAAGGUAAUCUAGACCCAUUUAGGCACCCUAGGUCUACUUAGGCACCCUAUGCUCAUUUCAGCACCCUAGGCCCAUUUAGGAACCCUAUGUCCACUUAGACACCAUAUGCCCAUUUAGGCAUCCUAGGUCCACUUAGGCACUCUAGACCCAUUUAGGCACCCUAGGUCCACUUAGGCACCCUACGCCCAUUUAGGCACCCUAGGUCCAUUUAGGCACCCUUGGCCCAUUUAGGUACGCUAGGCCCACUAAGGCACCCUAGGCCCAUUUAGGCACCCUAUGUCCAUUUAGGCACCCUAGGCUCAUUUAGGCACCCUAGGUCCCCUUAGGCAACCUAGGCCCAUUUAGGCAUCCUUGGUCCACUUAGGCACCCUAGGCCAAUUUAGGCACCCUAGGUCCAGUUAGGCACUCUUGACACAUUUAGGCACCGUAGGCCCAUUUAGGAACCCUAUGUCCACUUAGACACCUUAUGCCCAUUUAGGCACCCUAGGCUCAUUUAGGCACCGUUGGCCCAUUUCGGCACCCUAGGCCUACUUAGACACCGUAAGCCCACUUCGACACGCUGCGUUCAUCUAGGCACCCUAGGUCCACUUAGGCACCUUAGGCCCACUUAGGCACCCUUGGCCCAUUUAGGCACCUUAGGUCCACUUAGGCACCCUAGGCCCAUUUAGGCACCCUACGUCCACUUAGGCACCCUUAGCCCAUUUAGGAACCCUAGGUCCACUUAGGCACCUUAGGCCCAUGUAGGCACCCUAGGCCCAUUUAGGCACCCUAGGCAACCUUAAGCACCCUACGUCCACUUAGGCACCCCAGGUCUAUUUACGCACCCCUUGCCCAUUUAGGCACCCUAGGCCCACUUAGGCACCCUAGGCCCAUUUAGGCACCCUAUGUCCAUUUAGGCACCCUAGGCUCAUUCAGGCACCCUAGGUCCACUUAGGCACCCUAGGCCCAUUUAGGCAUCCUUGGUCCACUUAGGCACCCUAGGCCAAUUUAGGCACCCUAGGUCCAGUUAGGCACUCUUGACACAUUUAGGCACCCUAGGCCCAUUUAGGAACCCUAUGUCCACUUAGACACCUUAUGCCCAUUUCGGCACCCUAGGUCAACUAAGGUAAUCUAGACCCAUUUAGGCACCCUAGGUCUACUUAGGCACCCUAUGCUCAUUUCGGCACCCUAGGCCCAUUUAGGAACCCUAUGUCCACUUAGACACUAUAUGCCCAUUUAGGCAUCCUAGGUCCACUUAGGCACUCUAGACCCAUUUAGGCACCCUAGGUCCACUUAGGGACCCUACGCCCAUUUAGGCACCCUAGGUCCAUUUAGGCACCCUUGGCCCAUUUAGGUACGCUAGGCCCAUUUAGGCACCUUAGGUCCAUUUAGGCACAUCAGGCUCAUUUAGGCACCCAUAGGUCCAUUUAGGCACCCUAGGCUCAUUUAGGCACCCUAGGCUCAUUUAGGCACCCUUGGCCCAUUUAGGCACCCUAGGCUCAUUUAAGCACCCUUGGCCCAUUUAGGCACCGUAGGCCCACUUAGUAACCCUAAGCCCACUUAGACACCCUUGACCCAUUUAGGCACCCUAGGUCCACCUAAGCACUCUAGGCUCAUUUAGGCACCCUAGGUCCACUUAGACAGGCUAGGCCCAUUUAAGCCCCCUAAGCCCACUUAGGCACCCUUGGCCCAUUUGGGAACCCUAGGCUCAUUUAGGUACUCUAGGUCCACUUAGGCACCCUAAGCCCAUUUAGGCACCUUAGGUCCAAUUAGGCACUCUAGACCCAUUUAGGCACCCUAGGUCCACUUAGGCACCCUAGGCCCAUUUAGGCACCCUGGUCCAUUUAGGCACCCUUGGCGCCUUUAGGCACCCUUGGCGCCUUUAGGCACCCUAGAACCACUUAGACACCCUUGGACCAUUUAGGCACCCUAGGUCCAUUUAGGCACCGUUGGCUCAUUUACGCACCCUAGACCUAUUUAGGCACCCUAGGUCCACUUAGACACCUUAGGCUCAUUUAGGCACCCUAGGUCCACUUAGGCACUCUAGACCCAUUUAGGCACCCUAGGUCCACUAAGGCACCCUAGGUCCAUUUACGCACCCUUGGCUCAUUUAGGUACCUUAGGCCCAUUUAGGCACCCUAGGUCCCUUUAGGCAACUUAGGGUCAUUUAGGCAUCCAUAGGCCCAUUGAGGCACCCUAGGUCCACUUAGACACCUUAGGCCUAUUUAGGCACUCUAGGCCCACUUAGACACCCUAAGCCCACUUAGACACGCUGCUCCCAUUUAGGCACCUUAGGCCUACUUAGGCACCCUUGGCCCAUUUACGCACCCCUAGGUCCACUUAGGCACCCUAGGCCCAUUUAGGCACCCUCGGUCCCCUUAGACACCUUAGGCCCAUUUAGGCAUCCUAGGCUCUUUUAGGCACCCUUGGCCCAUUUAGGCACCCUAGGCCCAUUUACGACCCUAGGUCAACUUAGGCACCCUAGGUCCACUUAGGCACCCUAGGUCCACUUAGGCACCCUAGGCCGAUUUAGCCACCCUAGGUCCAGUUAGGCACUGUACACCCAUUUAGGCACCUUAGGCCCAUUUAGGCACCCUAAGUCCAAUUAGGCACCUUAGGCUCAUUUAGGCACCCUAGGCCCAUUUAGGAACCCUAUGUCCACUUAGACACCUUAUGCCCAUUUAGGCACCCUAGGUCCACUUAGGCACUCUAGACCCAUUUAGGAACCCUAGGUCCACUUAGGCACGCUAGGCCCAUUUAGGCACCCUAGGUCCAUUUAGGCACCCUUUGCCCAUUUAGGUACCCUAGGCCCACUUAGGUACCCUAGGACCAUGUAGGCACCCUAUGUCCAUUUAGGCACAUAUGGCUCAUUUAGGCACCCAUAGGCCCAUUUAGGCACCCUAGGUCCACUUAGACCCCUUAGGCCCAUUUAGGCACCCUAGACUAAUUUAGGCACCCUUGGCCCAUUUAUGCACCCUAGGCUCAUUUAGGCACCCUUGGCCCAUUUAGGUACCCUAGGCCCACUUAGUAACCCUAAGCCCACUUAGACACACUUGGCCCAUUUAGGCACCCUAGGUCCACUUAGGCACUCUAGGCCCAUUUAGGCACCCUAGGUCAUUUUACGCACCCUAGGCUCAUUUAAGUACCCGAGGCCCAUUUAGGCACCCUAGGUCCAUUUAGGCACCUUAGGGUCAUUUAGGCAUCCAUAGGCCCAUUUAGGCACCCUAGGUCCACUUAGACACCUUAGGCCUAUUUAGGCACCCUAGUCUCAUUUAGGAACUCUUGGCCCAUUUAGGCACCCUAGGCCCACUUAGACACCCUAAGCCCACUUAGACACCCUGCGCCCAUUUAGGCACCCUAGGUCCACUUAGGCACCUUAGUGUCACGGACUUAGUCGUUCACUAAGCUCGUGCGGCACUUAGGCAAGUCAAGACGCUUGAUCUUGCUAAGUCAGCCUUGAUCCUCAAUGCUUAGCUUGCUCGGCUAAGACACUCACGACUCGAAAUCUUAAGAAGCUUGGUAGGCAACUCCUUAAUGAAUGGAAGCUCUUAUUAACUCAAGAAAGCCUUUACAAGUGCUUAGAUGCUCACUUGCUUGGUUAGGAAGUGAUUUGGGUGGUGCCUUGGCCAAAUGAGGCCUUCACCUAUUUAUAGGCACCAAUGGAACUCUCUGGAACCUUGGAGGGUUCCUUAGAAAUGAAGAAUAUUCUAGAACAUCCUACCCUAUUCUAUGUACAACCCUAUGUACAAGAGAUUCUUAGAAGUCUCUAGAAAGCCCUGGACUCCUCCCAUGCCUUCCUCCAUAGUGUAGAGAUGUGCGGACAUCUCUAGGCAUUUCUAGAACCUUCCACACUCUUCCCACCAAUGGCUUAUUGUAAAUGGUUCCAGGAGUCUCCAGAAGCUUCCCUCUUUCUAUAUAAGCCCAUAGGGAGGGUCAUUUGAAACAUCCUGUGACACUCUCCCCCACUGAUGCCGUCGACGUCCUCGUCGUUGCCUCAUUCUGAAACCUCUCGAUGUGUUUCCAGAAUUUUCUCAAGGCAUCCGCAUGUUCCCAGCUUACCGGUCUCUUAGGUAGUCCUUUCCAUCGGACUAGAUACUCUAUCACAGGAGGGACCCCUUGUCUCCUAGUGACCCGUUCAGCCAGGAUAUUCUUCACCUCCUUCUCCUGUGAGGCUUCAGAUAGAUGCAGACCCAUGCGCUUUCGAUGCUUAGAGUGUUGCUUCUUCUUACCGAUUGAGUUCACCUUUCCCUUGGUGACCUCUUCCAUGUGUGUGCGGGCUACCUCAGCUCGCUCCUCUUUUUCCUCCUUUACUUGCACCCCUGCUAGUAAGGAGGUCUUAGGCGUACUAGGCUUCGGGUUAAAUUGGAGGGCACCUAGUAGCUGCAUUGAGCCCAUAUGUGCUUCGUCCUCCUGCUCCCUCUCCUCGAUCAUGGCACUGAACGCCUUCCUCUUUGGACAAUCCCGUGCCCAAUGUGGACCGUCACACAGGAAGCAUUUGAUUUUAGGUGUAAACUCCUUCCUUUCCGCCUUAUCCCUUCCUUCUCGGACGUUAGACGUCUUUCCUGAUCCCUUUUUAGGAGCAUUGUGGUCCCUUGGAACCUCGUCUCCCCUACCCUUGGCGUGGCUAUCCUCCAAAGACUUAACCUUGGAGGAGUCUCCUCUCUUAUAAUCCGUUAAAGACUCUGCUACUGCCAUAGCAGUGGCUAAGUCUUAAACGCCUCGGCGCCUUAAUUCUUGCUCGGCCCACCCUUGCAGGUUAUCCAUGAAGUUGAAUAACAACUCCUCCUCAAUUAUGUUAGGAAUCUCAAGCAUGAGCGAAGAGAAUUCCUUGACAUAUUCACGUAUCGAGCUUGUGUGCUUGAGACGCCUCAUGUUUUUCCUAGCCAGGUAAGCCACGUCCUCGGGGUAGAACUGCCUCUUGAUCUGCCUCCUGAAGUCCUCCCACGUCCCUAUGGUGCAAAUGCCUUUCUCCAUAUCGGCAAACCUUCGACGCCACCAUAGAGUAGCUGUGUCAGUAAGGUAGAGGGUCGUAGUUCUCACCUUAGCCACCUCAUUCGUUAAUGCGAUAGCUUCGAAGUAUCGCUCCAUAUGCCAUAAGAAGUUAUCCAACUUCUUGGCAUCCCGCUUGCCACUAAACCUAUGUGGCUUCGGCACCUCCACCCUAGAUGCCUCCUAUGUGGUCAUGACCCGUGCCGACACAGCAGCCUUGUAGAUGUCCAACUCCUGCCUAACCUCCUGGUCUCGGGACUCCAUUCGAGUGGCCAAGGCCUCUAUCCUUGACUCCAUGCUAGCAAGCAUGCUCAAGACCUUUCCUUGGAAGGACACAAACUCCUCGUGCGACACUGGUUGAACCUGUGAGACUAGCACCCUCUCACGAAGGUCUUGGAUCUGCUCCCCUAGAUCCUCUAAGCCCUUCUCCAUGCCUUGCUCGAUCAAGUCCAACCCCUCCCGAGUGUCCGCCAUGGCUAGCUCUACCUUGGCUAACCUUGCCUCCAUAUUGGCAACGGCAUCACGAGACUUAUCCUUCUUAUCCCUGCCCCGUGCAGUAGGCUCGGUCUCCCUUCCACGGGUUUGCUCACUAGUCUCCUCCACGUUAGAGCCCGACAUGCUUCCUUUGCUAUGCCCACCUUGUAACCGUGCUCUGAUACCACUUGUCACGGACUUAGUCGUUCACUAAGCUCGUGCGGCACUUAGGCAAGUCAAGACGCUUGAUCUUGCUAAGUCAGCCUUGAUCCCCAAUGCUUAGCUUGCUCGGCUAAGACACUCGCGACUCGAAAGCUUAAGAAGCUUGGUAGGCAACUCCUUAAAGAAUGGAAGCUCUUAUUAACUCAAGAAAGCCUUUACAAGUGCUUAGAUGCUCACUUGCUUGGUUAGGAAGUGAUUUGGGUGGUGCCUUGGCCAAAUGAGGCCUUCACCUAUUUAUAGGCACCAAUGGAACUCUCUGGAACCUUGGAGGGUUCCUUACAAAUCAAGAAUAUUCUAGAACAUCCUACCCUAUUCUAUGUACAACCCUAUGUACAAGAGAUUCUUAGAAGUCUCUAGAAAGCCCUGGACUCCUCCCAUGCCUUCCUCCAUAGUGUAGAGAUGUGCGGACAUCUCUAGGCACUUCUAGAACCUUCCACACUCUUCCCACCAAUGGCUUAGAGUAGAUGGUUCCAGGAGUCUCCAGAAGCUUCCCUCUUUCUAUAUAAGCCCAUAGAGAGGGUCAUUUGAAACAUCCUAUGACAUUAGGCCCAUUUAGGCACCCUUAGCCCAUUUACGCACCCUAGGUCCACUUAGGCAGCCUAGGCCCAUUUAGGCACCCUAGGUCCCCUUAGACACCUUAGGCCCAUUUAGGCACCCUAGCCUCAUUUAGACACCCUUGGCCCAUUGAGGCACCCUAGGCCCAUUGAGGCACCCUAGGCCCAUUUACGACACUAGGUCAACUUAGGCACCCUAGGUCCACUUAGGCACCCUAGGUCCACUUAGGCACCCUAGGCCCAUUUAGGCACCCUAGGACCAAUUAGGCACUGUAAACCCAUUUAGGCACCUUAGGCCCAUUUAGGCACCCUAAGUCCAAUUGGGCAGCUUAGGCUCAUUUAGGCACCCUAGGCCCAUUUAGGAACCCUAUGUCCACUUAGACACCUUAUGCCCAUUUAGGCACCCUAGGUCCACUUAUGCACUCUAGACCCAUUUAGGCACCCUAGGUCCACUUAGGCACCUUAGGCCCAUUUAGGCACCCUAGGUCCAUUUAGGCACCCUUUGCCCAUUUAGGUACCCUAGGCCCACUUAGGUACCCUAGGACCAUUUAGGCACCCUAGGUCCAUUUAGGCACAUAAGGCUCAUUUAGGCACCCAUAGGCCCAUUUACGCACCCUAGGUCCACUUAGACCCCUUAGGCCCAUUUAGGCACCCUAGGCUCAUUUAGGCACCCUUCGCCCAUUUAGGCACCCUAGGCCCACUUAGUAACCCUAAGCCCACUUAGAACCCUUGGCCCAUUUAGGCACCCUAGGUCCACUUAGGCACUCUAGGCCCAUUUAGGCACCCUAGGUCUCUUAGACACGCUAGGCCCAUUUAAGCACCCUAAGCCCACUUAGGCACCCUUGGCCCAUUUUGGAACCCUAGGCUCAUUUAGGCACCCUAGGUCCACUUAGGCACCCUUGGCCCAUUUAGGCCCCCUAAGCCUAAAUGGCACCCUAGGUCAACUUAGGCACCCUACGUCCACUUAGGCACCCCAGGUCCAUUUAGGCACCCUUGGCCCAUUUAGGCACCCUAGGCCCACUUAGGCACCCUAGGCCCAUUUUGGCACCCUAUGUCCAUUCAGGCACCAUAGGGUCGUUUAGGUACCCUAGGUCCACUUAGGCACCCUAGGCCCAUUUAGGCACCCUAGGUCCAUUUAGGCACAUAAGGCUCAUUUAGGCACCCAUAGGCCUAUUUCGGCACCCUACCUCCACUUAGACACCUUAGGCCCAUUUUGGCACCCUAGGCUCAUUUAGGAACCCUUGGCCCAUUUAGGCACCCUAGGCCCACUUAGUAACCCUAAGCCCACUUAGACACCCUUGGCCCAUUUAGGCACCCUAGGUCCACUUUAGCACUCUAGUCCAAUUUAGGCACCCUAGGUCCACUUAGACACGCUAGGCACAUUUAAGCAGCCAAAGCCCACUUAGGCACCCUUGGGCCAUUUUGGAACCCUAGGCUCAUUUAGGCACCCUAGGUACCCUUAGGCACCCUAAGCCCAUUUAGGCAUCCUUGGCCCAUUUAGGCACCUUAGGCCCACUUAGGCACCUAGGUCCACUUAGACACCUUAGGCCCAUUCAGGCACCCUAGGUCCACUUAGGCACUCUAGACCCAUUUAGGCACCCUAGGUCCACCUAGGCACCCUAAGCCCAUUUAGGCACCCUAGGUCCAUUUACGCACCCUUGGCCCAUUUAGGUACCCUAGGCCCAUUUAGGCACCCUAGGUCCAUUUACGCACCUUAGAGUCAUUUAGGCAUCCAUAGGCCCAUUUAGGCACCCUAGGUCCACUUAGACUCCUUAGGCCCAUUUAGUCACCCUAAGCUCAUUUAGGCACCCUUGGCCAAUUUAGGCACCUAGGCCCACUUAGACACCCUAAACCCACUUAGACACGCAGCGCCCAUUUAGGCACCCUACGUCCACUUAGGCACCUUAGGCCCACUUAGGCACCCUUGGCCCAUUUACGCACCUAGGUCCACUUAGGCACCCUAGGCCCAUUUAGGGGACCCUAAGUCGACUUAGACACCUUACGGCCAUUUAGGCACCCUAGGCUCAUUUAGGGACCCUUCGCCCAUUUAGGCACCCUAGGUCCAUUUACGACCCUAGGUCAACUUAGGCACCCUAGGUCCAUUUAGGUACCCUAGGUCCACUUAGACAGCCUAGGCCCAUUUAGGCACCCUAGGCUCAUUUAGGCACCCUUGGCCCAUUUAGGCACCCUACGCCCAUUUAGGCACCCUAGGUCAACUUAGGCAACCUAGGUCCACUUAUGCACCCCAGGUCCAUUUAGGCACCCUUGGCCCAUUGAGGCACCCUAGGCCCACUUAGGCACCCUAGGCCCAUUUACGCACCCUAGGUCCAUUUACGCACCCUAGUCCCAUUUAGGCACCAUAGGUCCACUUAGACACCCUAGGCCCAUUUAGGCACCCUAAGCCCACUUAGGCACCCUUGGUCCAUUUAGGCACCCUAGGCUCAUUUAGGUACCCUAGGUCCACUUAGGCACCCUAGGCCCAUUUAGGCACCCUUGGUCCACUUAGGCACCCUAGGCCCAUUUAGGUACCCUAGGUCUAGUAAGGAACUCUAGACCCAUUUAGGCACCUUAGGCUCAUUUAGGCACCCUAGGUCCAAUUAGGCACCUUAGGCUUAUUUAGGCACCCUAGGCCCAUUUAGAAACCCUAUGUCCACUUAGACACCUUAUGCCCAUUUAGGCACCCUAGGUCCACGUAGGCACUCUAGACCCAUUAGGCACCCUAGGUUCACUUGGGCACCCUAGGCCCAUUUAGGCACCCUAGGUCCACUUUGGCACCAUAGGCCCAUUUAGCCACCCUAGGUCCACUUACACACCUUAGGCCCAUUUAGGCACCCUAGGCUCAUUUAGGCACCCUUGGCCCAUUUAGGCACUCUAGGCCCACUUAGACACCCUAAGCCCACUUAGACACACUGUGCCCAUUUAGGCACUCUAGGUCCACUUAGGCACCCUAGGCCCAUUUAGGCACCGUAGGUCUAUUUAGGCACAUAAGGCUCAUUUAGGCACCCAUAGGCCCAUUUAGAAAAUUUCGCACAGCCUGAUGCAGUUGUCUUCCGAAGGCCAUAUCUUUCUCAUUUCAGCUCCAAAUCAUACAUGGUUUGAACCGUUGGAUUCUUGACUUUCUGAGCUUUGAAAUGGUAUAUAGAAUGUAAAAAAUGGACUUCGGGAAGUGCUCCAAAAGUGCAAUGAAAGACUGCAGCUGUGUCCCCUGUUUUCCUCUUCUCCAUUGUUUCUUCCUUGUAUACUUUGAACCACUAAGGCAAAGGAUUAUGAGGCUCCAUAGCUUGAUUUCUUCAUAAAUUUAAGCUUUCAAAAGCUUUGCUCUGAACUAUAAAUAGCUCUCCCUCAUUCUUAAAUUGCUUUGGUGAGCAUAAAGCUAUCAAAAAGCACCAAAACUUAACACAUUUGUUAGAAACGAUUGCAAAGGUCCCUAAUAUGUUAAUUGAGUUAAAAGAUAAUAAUUACUACUCAAGGGUGUUUAAAAGAGCUAAUUACAAGCUACAAAAUAGCAUGUUUUGAGUAGUAAUCACUCCCCCCAACCGACAUAUUGCUAGUCCCUUAGCAAUUAAGGAGAGAAAAACUAAGCAAACGUAAUAAUAUACAUAAAAGAAGUCAUGCAAUUCAUUCCAAAAAAUAAUUGAGUGGCAUGACUGAUAUCCAAACACAUCUCUCCUGGUGAACUAAAGAUAUGAAGAUUCAAAAUGCAAUAGGAGUUGUCAAAGCUUAAACUUAAACAAAAAGUACAAAGAGUGGAGAUUAUGCAAUUAAGUAUCAAAAGAAUCUCUACUCUCAAGGUUUCAAAUCAAACUCUUCCAUAAUAAGCUAAGUGUUAAUGAAAUUAGCUUCCGGAUAUAGUAUAUACAACUAUCCUCACCCUCCAAACUAAGCUUUUCUCGAAUAUUGGCAAAAUUAAUCAACUCUUAAUAGGUUAAGAACGCACCUUCUUAUUCACAAUUCUUUUUUUUUUUACUCACUAAACUUAACCAAUUCACCUAUGUAGCAAGCAGAGGAUCGAUGACUCCCAACCAAUUAAGGUUUAGGGCAUUGGGUUUUAAAGGCUUUCGCCACCCCUUCGGAUCAUACUUAGGUUUCAAGGAAAGAAUAGAGGCUUAUUCUCUUUUUCUUUUUCUAAGACUCAUUGGUCUUUUUCUAAGACUCAUUGGUCUUUAUGAGGUGUCCCAACACUAUUAAAAAGAGGUUAAGUAAUAAACCAAGUCAAAAUUUUCCUAAGCUUAGAAAGUGAGAAAGUUUUACAUCUUAUAUCCGGGAUCUAAUGUGCACAGUGUGUGUAAAGCUCGAAAUGGAAGAAGAAAGUUCAAAAUCAAAGAGGCUUCAAUAGAUUAUCAACUUUGAAAGCAUAAAACAAACUCUAAGACUUAAAUAAUUAAGUUAAAACUCGACUUAUCCUAUUUUAUUUUUGAAAAAUUAUCUUUAACAACCAGAGAGAAUGAUUCAAAAAACUUUUUAAAAAAUUUAAAAUUUAAGCAAAAAUUAACUAAAAUACCAAAAUAACUUAAUAUUGACAACAAAACUUCCUUUCUCAAUUCUCCCCCCCAACCAAGUUGAACAUUGUCCCCAAUGUUUCAAAAGCGAUUAAAAAUAAAGGGAGGAAGUGGUACCUCCUGAGUGAGAUAAAGUCUGAGUGUAAAGGAGGUAUGGAGUACCUUAAACCACAUGUUCCAAGGACAAAAGAGUAAUGAGAAAAGGGAAUAUAAUCAAAAAGGAUAUAUAUAUAUAUAUAUAUUACUUGAAAAAGAAAUAUACAAUGUAUGAUUUCAAGUACUAUUUCCAAUCCCAAUUUAUAACACAUGCAAAAGAUGGGAUUUACAAGUCUAAAAUAAAAAGUAAAACAUAAAAAAAUCAGAUAUGAGUGGGGUCAUGUGAUGGCUCUGCUCUGAUCUCCUCCUCUGGUAUAGGCUGCUCAGCUGGCAAGCUCUCCUCAUCUGGCACUAGAGGCUCGGAUGGUGCAGACCUAUCAUGCCCAAGAGGGAUCUGCAUACUCAGAUGCUGCUGAAUCUGAUGAAGGAUCGUGGUAUGCUGGGCCUGAGUAGCGAUGAUCUGAUCCUGGUGUGCACGAAUAGUGGCCAUCUGGUGGAUAAUAGAAUCCUGAGCAGUGCUCAGUGUCCGCAAUGAACGCUCUAAGCCUCUGAAUUCUGUAAGAGAAAUGGUGACAGUGGGCUCAGAUGAAGGAGGAGGUGCUGGGGUAGCUGGCACGACUGGUGGAGCACCCUGAGUGAUAGGGGAGGUAGAAUGUAUAGCCUCGGGCAUGUGCACUGAGGGCUGUGCUGCAGGGGCAGGAGGUGGUGUCUCUGUGAGAAUCUCAUCCUGCUGGGCCUGAGGUAUCUGCUCAUCUCGGGGUAGCUCUGGAGGUGCAUGUACAGCUGGGGCUCCCUGAGGUGCAAAGUAGGCUACCAAGUGAUGCCAUUUGUCGAGAGAGAAGUCCUCUCGGCAAUGGCGGCGCCUCUCAAGACGGGGCUCUUCAGGAUAGCCCAAGUGCUCUAAAAUCUGGCAGAGGAGCCUCGGAAAUAGUAAUGGGAUGCCAUCUGCCCUCUGAAGCUUCUUCUGAUGGACUUUCUCUUCAAAAUGAAGAAGAGAAGUCAUAAUCAAAUGAUGAGGGCCGAAGAAAUAGCCCUCAGAAAUCCUGAAUAACGCCUCAAGUAUAGCUCCUCUCCUCUGAACCUUAUGCUGAAGGGGGAAUAGGUUGGCACGCAGGAGCACAUCAAUGAGGAGCAUCCCAGAUGGAAGCUCUCUCCUGGUCAAUACCGAGGCUGUAGAAGUCCCCCUGGACAAAAUGCGGACCAUGUCACUCUGAGAGAAUGAGGACCACUCCCUGAAAUCUGCCUGAAACACGGGCUCAUAAGGUAUACGGAGGGCCUCAGCAAUGUGGCGAGCUCCAAUGGCACCCUGGCGUCCGUCUAUGGUAAAUUGGAUGAGAGUAGGAUUGCGGAGGCCUCGAGUAGUCAUAGAUUGAUAAAAAUCUAAAACUACUCUGGGAUAGUAGAAUUGCCUAGGAGUGAGAAGAUCCUCCAUGUGAUACCUCUACAGCAGUCGGAAUGAAUCUCUGAGCUCUGGCUGCUGUCUGAGGGCCUCUAUAUCAAAGUAGGUCUCAGAGUGGAAGGAUCGAUUUCUGCAAUCCAAGUUGCCCUCUAUCGGUGGUCCGGCUAUCAUGGGACGCCUGAUAAUGGUCUCGGGAGUAUUUUCUACAGGAAUCUGAGGUUCCUCUGUAGCUGGCUCUGGCUGAGGUGCGUGGGAUGGCUCUCCAGGACCCGAGAACCUGGUCCUCUUCGCUGGUGGCCGAGAAACAGGGCUCGUGGCCUGAUCGACUGGUGCCACAGGGUCCGCGGGUGGCCUCCGGGUGGGGUAUCGGCUCUGAGAAGGAGCUUCCCCCUCAGAUGGGGGAAUGGCCGGGGCCUGAACAGGUGGUGAAGGUGCGGCUCCCAUGGCGGCUCGCUGUGGUCGAGGUGUCGGUGAGGACGGGGAGGCGGAAUGGCCUCCUCUGGUCUUCGCCAUGGCCGAAAUGAAGGGAGGUGGGUGUUCGGGAUUCCAGAGGUUUUUCAGCUGGUGCUUAGGAGAGUCCUUUGAGCUUCUGGACUUCAGGGGUUUAUAUAGGAAUGAGGUUUAAGGGGUUUCUGAUCUUUUAAAAUUUUUCAAGGCAACCGAAAAGUCGUUUUUGGAUGUUAGGCACAAUUUCGGGGGUAAAAUUUUAAUUUAAAAGUCGGUUUUAAAUUUGUAGAAGUUAAAAUUUUACCGUGCGAAAUUUUCGCACCUUGGCCUGCAAAUUUCGCACCUUGGAAUUGGGUGUGCGAAAAUGGCACCCCUUUGGCCGAUGAUUUCGCACGUUAAAAGGAGGUGUGCGAAAUUUUCGCACCUUGAAUAGUGGUGUGCGAAAUUUUCGCACACUAUUUCGCACAGUGCGAAAAUCAGCUUGAGGUGUGCGAAAUUGGCACACGUGUGCCAGGAGAGGAUUUCGCACAGUGCGAAAAUUUUCGCACCUUCCACAGUGGUGUGCGAAAUUGGAUUUUAGGAAAUUCGCACCUUGAAAAGGGAUUUCGCACCUUGAAAUUGAUUUCGCACCUUGAGGUAGGGGUGUGCGAAAAUUGCUUCCUUUGGCCCAAGGAUUUCGCACCUUGGUAUUGAGGUGUGCGAAAUUUUCGCACCUUGAAAUCAGGUGUGCGAAAAUUUGGCACCUUGAAAUUGGGUGCUCUGUUUCCUUGGUUUUUCUCCCCUUGGCUGCUUUUGACGAGCUCUCCCCAUCUUUCAUGAUUUUUUUCUGAAAUUUAUUAUCAAAAUUAACUUGAAUUAAGACAAUAUAAACUAAGAUUAGGAGAAAAUUAAAAUAUAAAGAAAUAAAAAUACUAAUAUAACUAUAAAACUAUAACAAAAAAUUCAUGGACUUCUUUAGCCCAUGAUACCCUGCUUUCCCUCAGAUUUGUGGUAGUUCAAGGAGAUUGAUCUCCUCCUUGUCUGUACUGUAAGGCUCUAAGAAUGGCUUGAGACGAUGGCCAUUGACUUUGAAGGUUUGAUUGCCUGUGGGAUUGAAUAUUUCCACCACUCCGUUGGGAUGCACUUCAUGAAUUAUGAAAGGACCCGUCCAUCUGGAUUUCAAUUUUUUUCGGUAAAAGAUAAAGCUUAGAGUCAUAAAGUAAGACUCUUUGUCCCAAAACAGCCCCCAUAGCAAGAUCUUAAAAAAAAAAACUAAGUUAAAUCAAACCAAAAUAAAAUUAAAGCAAGAAAUCAAAAUUAAAACAAGUUUAAAAAUAAAACAAAAAGAUAUGGACUAGCUAGUCUUUAGAAAGACUAAGUCCAUAAAAAAAAUUGGAUCCGGAUUUAGCUUGCCCGGAUCCCAUAUGAAGUUUGCAUCCCUCCCUUGAGACUUGCUUUGUAUGAUGGUGCCAUACAAAGCUUGGGGGAAAGGUGGAGGGAUGUGAUUCUUCAUCAUUUCUUCCUUUAAAAGAAUUUGAGGUUCCUCAUCCAUGCUUGGAAUGAUGCUUUCUUUCAUCUGAACUCCCUUUCCCUUUUGUUCUUUCUUCUUUUCUUCUUUUCUAUCAGCCUUGUCUUCUUUGGCUUUCCUCUGAUCAUGCUCCGGCUGAUGCACUUCCUUACCACUUCUCAAAGUGAUAAUAGCUUGCACGUCCCUCACCUUUGAAGAAUCCUCAUCUUUGGAUUCCACUUCAUGUAUCCCCUUAGGAUUUUGGUGAGGCUGAGAGGGAAACUUCCCUUUCUCAUUGACAGUGUUCAAAUUUGUGAGCCUUGAGAUGGAAUAUUGGAUGUUGUCAAUUUUCUGAGACAACUCAUUAUGCAUCCCAUCUAUCUUCUUGUUCAAUGUACUCUCUACGUUGUCAAUCUUCUGAUUUAGUUGAGAGUUGAUGGAUUUUUGCUCGCUCACAAAGUCACCCAUAACCUUGCUAAGGCUUACGAGUGCUUGCUCAACUGAGGAUUGACCUUGACUCUGUUGGCUUGAUUGGGCUGGUGACUGAUAUGGGUUUGGCCUUGGCUUCCAUGCAAAGUUUGGGUGGUUCCUCCAGCUAGAGUUGUACGUGUUGCCAUAGGGAGCAUUUGAAUUUGGCUUCCAUUGGCCAAUCAGGUUAGCUUGUUCCCCGAACAUUUCUCUUGCUGCCAGAAUGGUGGGACAUUCUUCCACCAUAUGUUCAAAUGACUGACAUAUGGAGCAAGGAUUGGCUUGUUGUUGAGGUUCUGAAAUAGCUUGGACUUCGUGAACUUUUCUCAACUCCAUUUCCUCUAUUUUUCUAGCCAUGGCAGCUACCUUGGCUUUCAUCUCCAUGUCUUCACUCAGACUGUACAUCCCCCCUCUUGACAUUUGCUGAACUGGCCUCUUCCCCAUUUCUCUACUAUUGGGCUCAUCCCAUCCACGGGAAACCUCUGAGACAUAACUUAGGAAGUCCAUAGCCUCCUCAGGGUUCUUGCUCAUGAAAUCACCCCCACACAUUGUCUCCAAUAUCUGCUUCAUUGAAGAUGACAUGCCAUCAUAAAAAUAGCUCACCAAAAGCCAUGUAUCAAAGCCGUGGUGAGGACAUGCAUUGAUGGCCUCCAUAUACCUCUCCCAGCAUUCAUAAAAUUUUUCAUUUUCACGUGCUGAGAAGUUGGAGAUUUGUCUCUUCAAUCCAUUUGUUCUGUGAGUAGGGAAAAACUUCUUCAAAAAAUCAGCUUGAAGUUCUGUCCAUGUUCUUAUGCUUCUCGGCCUCAAGGAAUUAAGCCAUAUCUUGGCUUUGUCCUUUAAUGUGAAUGGAAAGAGCUUCAACCUCAUAAGCUCAAUAGUUGUUCCCCCUUCUUGAAAAGUAUUGCACACAUCUUCGAAUUCCUUUAUGUGCGCAUAUGGAUUUUCACUUUCCAUCCCAUGGAAAGUAGGAAGCAGAGGCACGAUGUGUGGCAUGAUAAUCAAUUGCUCUGUAGGAGGAAUGAUGCAAGAUGGUGCACUCAUCCUCGGAGGGUGCAUCCUGUCCCUCAUGGACCUAUACAAGUUCGGAUCAUUCCCCUGCCCGUGUUGUGAAUGUUGAUCCUCUGGUUGAUUCUCCAUGAUCUCCAAAAUAAUAUCUAAUUCAGUAGCUCGUGGAGUCUCUAUCCGCACUAACCUUCCCUCUUGGUCUCUAAUCCAAUAGGGCAUGCACGGAUUCAGCUGGAACAAAACAAAUAAACAAAACAAAGAAAAAGAAAAAAAAAACAGAGCAUGCGGAAGGAAAAACAGAGUAUGAAAAAUAAACUAAAAAUGAAAGUUAAAAGCUAAAAGAAACUUAUCUAAACUAAGUUAAAAAUGUUCUAAAACUAAAAUAAAAAGUUAGUAAAUGAAAAAGGAGAUAGAAUUCACCUUACUCAUGAGAAGUCUCACAAGUUACCUCCGGCUGAUAUAUUCACAGUGAAGUAGCACCUUCCCCGGCAACGGCGCCAUUUGAUACGCUUGACUCUUGGUAGCUUGGCAUGUAAGGGUAUCAACAAAAUUUAUACCUAAGGUCCUUACACUAAAGUAGCAAAGCUACUAUAGUAUAGUGGCUCUAGGAUCGAACACUGGGAAGGGUUUUUACUUUAACUAGUGAAGUUCAGAGGAUGGAGUGAACUUUUCUUAAUAAAAAUUAGGUUAAGAUGAAAACAUAAAAAGAUGAAGGUGUUGUAAACUAAACUAACAUGAAAAUAGGAUAAAAGAUGGAAAAAGAAGUUUCUCAAAGCUUUGGAUAGCCAUGCUUAACUCACCAUGUAAAAAUGGAGAUUUUGGGACUUUUCACCUCGCGUUGGGGAAGCAACUAAGGUGAUGCUUACUUCCCGAACCGGUAUGAGUUUAACAACUGAGUUUUAGUCCUUGAAAACUUACAAAAAGGGUAGCUGAACCUCAUAAAUGCCCUUUUAAUGAUAUAGGUCAUCUACUCGACUUGCAAUACAAUGGCUCGUAGGAGAUAACUAACGAACGUCAGUGGAUCUAACAAUAAGAAUCCACUGAGACCAAAAGCUUAUCAAGUAUUGGCCAUUCAAAGCAAGUCAGAGGGAUUAAAAGCUUUACUUUGAAUGAAAACAUUUAUGGUGCUCAGCUACUUACAUUCAUGGCUUGGAAAUCUCCAUCCUGACACGGGAGCUUCACAUGGCAUCCAUUACUUCAAGAAACUAAAAGGUUUUAGCCUCUCAUCCUUGGGGAUUUCAUCCUCCAAGGAUGUUUGGCUACUAAGAAAAUGAGAAAAUAGAAGAGAGAAAAAGAAAAAACAAAAGAGAUCUCUGUAUUUCACUAAGUAACUAAUUUACAUUGGUCUCCUGGAGAAAGCUCCCCGAAAAGAUAUUGUUUUCAGUGAUUACAAGAGAAUUUAUAUAGGAAGGUAGUUUUACCCUUCCUUGGAUACUUCCUAGCUAAGGAAUUACAUGGUUGGUUGAAUACAAGGAGAAAAUGGAAAUUUAAACACAAAAAUAUCAGAAGAAGAAGAGUCGGCAAACAUAUCCAAUUUUCGCACGCUGAAGUUCCAAUUUCGCACGUUGAUUUGAGGUGUGCGAAAUUUUCGCACAGUGGACUGAGGAUUUCGCACCUUGAUUUCCAUCGUGCGAAAAUUUCGCAUAGCCUGAUGCAGUUGUCUUCCGAAGGCCAUAUCUUUCUCAUUUCAGCUCUAAAUCAUACAUGGUUUAAACCGUUGGAUUCUUGACUUUCUGAGCUUUGAAAUGGUAUAUAGAAUGUAAAAAAUGAACUUCGGGAAGUGCUCCAAAAGUGCAAUGAAAGACUGCAGCUGUGUCCCCUGUUUUCCUCUUCUCCAUUGUUUCUUCCUUGUAUACUUUGAACCACUAAGGCAAAGGAUUAUGAGGCUCCAUAGCUUGAUUUCUUCAUAAAUUUAAGCUUUCAAAAGCUUUGCUCUGAACUAUAAAUAGCUCUCCCUCAUUCUUAAAUUGCUUUGGUGAGCAUAAAGCUAUCAAAAAGCACCAAAACUUAACACAUUUGUUAGAAAUGAUUGCAAAGGUCCCUAAUAUGUUAAUUGAGUUAAAAGAUAAUAAUUACUACUCAAGGGUGUUUAAAAGAGCUAAUUACAAGCUACAAAAUAGCAUGUUUUGAGUAGUAAUCAGCACCCUAGGUCCACUUACACACCCUAGGUCCACUUAGGCACCCUAGGCCCAUUUAGGCACCCUAGGUCCAUUUAGGCACAUAAGGCUCAUUUAGGCACCCAUAGGCCUAUUUCGGCACCCUACCUCCACUUAGACACCUUAGGCCCAUUUUGGCACCCUAGGCUCAUUUAGGAACCCUUGGCCCAUUUAGGCACCCUAGGCCCACUUAGUAACCCUAAGCCCACUUAGACACCCUUGGCCCAUUUAGGCACCCUAGGUCCACUUUAGCACUCUAGUCCCAUUUAGGCACCCUAGGUCCACUUAGACACGCUAGGCACAUUUAAGCAGCCAAAGCCCACUUAGGCACCCUUGGGCCAUUUUGGAACCCUAGGCUCAUUUAGGCACCCUAGGUACACUUAGGCACCCUAAGCCCAUUUAGGCAUCCUUGGCCCAUUUAGGCACCUUAGGCCCACUUAGGCACCUAGGUCCACUUAGACACCUUAGGCCCAUUCAGGCACCCUAGGUCCACUUAGGCACUCUAGACCCAUUUAGGCACCCUAGGUCCACCUAGGCACCCUAGGCCCAUUUAGGCACCCUAGGUCCAUUUACGCACCCUUGGCCCAUUUAGGUACCCUAGGCCCAUUUAGGCACCCUAGGUCCAUUUAGGCACCUUAGAGUCAUUUAGGCAUCCAUAGGCCCAUUUAGGCACCCUAGGUCCACUUAGACUCCUUAGGCCCAUUUAGGCACCCUAAGCUCAUUUAGGCACCCUUGGCCAAUUUAGGCACCUAGGCCCACUUAGACACCCUAAACCCACUUAGACACGCAGCGCCCAUUUAGGCACCCUAGGUCCACUUAGGCACCUUAGGCCCACUUAGGCACCCUUGGCCCAUUUACGCACCUAGGUCCACUUAGGCACCCUAGGCCAAUUUAGGGACCCUAAGUCGACUUAGACACCUUACGGCCAUUUAGGCACCCUAGGCUCAUUUAGGGACCCUUCGCCCAUUUAGGCACCCUAGGUCCAUUUACGACCCUAGGUCAACUUAGGCACCCUAGGUCCAUUUAGGUACCCUAGGUCCACUUAGACAGCCUAGGCCCAUUUAGGCACCCUAGGCUCAUUUAGGCACCCUUGGCCCAUUUAGGCACCCUACGCCCAUUUAGGCACCCUAGGUCAACUUAGGCAACCUAGGUCCACUUAGGCACCCCAGGUCCAUUUAGGCACCCUUGGCCCAUUGAGGCACCCUAGGCCCACUUAGGCACCCUAGUCCCAUUUACGCACCCUAGGUCCAUUUACGCACCCUAGUCCCAUUUAGGCACCAUAGGUCCACUUAGACACCCUAGGCCCAUUUAGGCACCCUAAGCCCACUUAGGCACCCUUGGUCCAUUUAGGCACCCUAGGCUCAUUUAGGUACCCUAGGUCCACUUAGGCACCCUAGGCCCAUUUAGGCACCCUUGGUCCACUUAGGCACCCUAGGCCCAUUUAGGUACCCUAGGUCUAGUUAGGAACUCUAGACCCAUUUAGGCACCUUAGGCCCAUUUAGCCACCCUAGGUCCAAUUAGGCACCUUAGGCUUAUUUAGGCACCCUAGGCCCAUUUAGAAACCCUAUGUCCACUUAGACACCUUAUGCCCAUUUAGGCACCCUAGGUCCACGUAGGCACUCUAGACCCAUUAGGCACCCUAGGUUCACUUGGGCACCCUAGGCCCAUUUAGGCACCCUAGGUCCACUUUGGCACCAUAGGCCCAUUUAGCCACCCUAGGUCCACUUACACACCUUAGGCCCAUUUAGGCACCCUAGGCUCAUUUAGGCACCCUUGGCCCAUUUAGGCACUCUAGGCCCACUUAGACACCCUAAGCCCACUUAGACACACUGUGCCCAUUUAGGCACCCUAGGUCCACUUAGGCACCCUAGGCCCAUUUAGGCACCCUAGGUCUAUUUAGGCACAUAAGGCUCAUUUAGGCACCCAUAGGCCCAUUUAGGCACCCUAGGUCCACUUACACACCCUAGGCCCAUUUAGGCACCCUAGGCUCAUUUAGGCACCCUUCGCCUAUUUAGGCACCCUAGGCUCAUUUAGUCACCCUUGGCCCAUUUACGCACCCUAGGGCCACUUAGUAACCCUAAGCCCACUUAGACACCCUUGGCCCAUUUAGGCACCCUAGGUCCACUUAGGCACUCUACGCCCAUUUAGGCACCCUAGGUCCACUUAGACACGCUAGGCCCAUUGAAGCACCCUAAGCCCACUUAGGCACCCUUGGCCCAUUUAGGAACCCUAGGCUCAUUUAGGCACCCUAGGUCCACUUAGGCACCCUAAGCCCAUUUAGGCACUCUAGGUCCAAUUAGGUACUCUAGACCCAUUUAGGCACCCUAGGUCCACUUAGGCCCCCUUGGCCCAUUUAGUCACCCUAGGUCCAUUUAGGGACGCUUGGCCCAUUUAGGCACCUUAGGCCCACUUAGGCACCCUUGGCCCAUUUAGGCACCCUAGGUCCAUUUAGGCACCCCAGGCUCAUUUAGGCAUCCUAGGCCCAUUUAGGCACCCUAGGUCCAGUUAGACACCUUAGGCCCGUUUUGGCACCCUAGGUGCAGUUAGGCAUUCUAGACCCAUUAAGGCACCCUAGGUCCACUUAGGCAGCCUAGGCCCAUUUAGGCACCCUAGGUCCAUUUAGGCACCCUUGGCCCAUUUAGGUACCCUAGGCCCAUUUAGGCACCCUAGGUCCAUUUAGGCACCUUAGGGCAUUUAGGCAUCCAUAGGCCCACUUAGGCACCCUAGGUCCACUUAGACACCUUAGGCCCAUUUAGGCACCCUAGUGUCACAAGCUGAUCCAAAUGAGCCUCCCCAUGGCCUUAUAUAGGGCCAGGAAGCUUCUGGAGACUCCUAGAGUGGGAAGAGUGUGGAAGGUUCUAGAGAAGUCUGGAGGAAUCCACACAAUUCUACACUAUGGUGGAAGGCACAAGAGGAGUCCUGGGCUUUCUAGAGGAAUCUAGAAGACUCUUGUAUAUACUUGUAUAUAGGCUUGUAUCUAGAAUGAUGUAGGACAUUCUAGAAUAGUCUUGAGUUGUAAGGAACCCUCCAAGGUUCCAGAGAGUUCCAUUGGUGCCUAUAAAUAGGUGAGGGCCUCAUUUGGCCAAGGCACCAAGCAAGUGAGCAUCCAAGCACUUGUAAAGGCUUUCUUGAGUUAAUAGAGCUUCCAUUCUUUCAAGAGUUGCCUACCAAGCUUCUUAAGCUUUUUGAGUCGCAGGUGUCUUAGACGAGCAAGCUAAGCAUUGGGGAUCAAGGCUGACUUAGCAAGAUGAAGCGUCUUGGCUUGUCUAAGUGCCGCACGAGCUUAGUGAAUGACUAAGUCUGUGAUACUAGGCUCAUUUAGGCACCCUUGGCCCAUUUAGGCACCCUAGGCCCACUUAGACACCCUAAGCCCACUUAGACACGCUACGCCCAUUUAGGCACCCUAGGUCCACUUAGGCACCUUAGGCCCACUUAGGCACCCUAGACCCAUUUAGGCACCCUAGGUCCAAUUAGGCACCCUAAGCUCAUUUUGGCACCCUAGGCCCAUUUAGGAACCCUAUGUCCACUUAGACACCUUAGGCCCAUUUAGGCACCGUCGGUCCACUUAGGCACUCUAGACCCAUUUAGGCACCCUAGGUCUACUUAGGCACCCUAGGCCCAUUUAGGUACCCUAGGUCCAUUUAGGCACCCCUUGCCCAUUUAGGUACCCUAGGCCAACUUAGGUACCCUAGGACCAUUUAGGCACCCUAGGUCCAUUUAGGCACAGAAGGCUCAUUUAAGCACCCAUAGGCCCAUUUAGGCACCCUAGGUCCACUUAGACCCCUUAAGCCCAUUUAAGCACCCUAGGCUCAUUUAGGCACCCUUGGCCCAUUUAGGCACCCUUGGCUCAUUUAGGCACCCUUGGCCCAUUUAGGCACCCUAGUGUCACAGGAUGCUUAAAAUGACCCUCCCCAUGGGCUUAUAUAGGAGGAGGGAAGCUUUUGGAGACUCCUGGAGCCAUCUACACUAAGCCAUUGGUGGGAAGAGUGUGGAAGGUUCUAGAAAUGCCUAGAGAAGUCCACACAACUCUACACUAUGGUAGAAGGCACGAGAAGGGUCCAAAGCUUUCUAGAGAAAUCUAGAAGUCUCUUGAAUAUUCUAGAAUAGUGUAGGACAUUCUAGAAGUCUCUUGAAUAUUCUUGAAUAGUGUAGGACAUUCUAGAAUAUUCAUGAAUUGUAAGGAACCCUCUAAGGUUCUAGAGAGUUCCAUUGGUGCCUAUAAAUAGGUGAGGGCCUCAUUUGGCCAAGGCACCAAGCAAGUGAGCAUCCAAGCACUUGUAAAGGCUUUCUUGAGAUAAUAAAGCUUCCAUUCUUUAAGGAGUUGCCUACUAAGCUCUUAAGCUUUCGAGUCGCGAGUGUCUUAGUCAAGCAAGCUAAGCAUUGGGGAUCAAGGCUGACUUAGCAAGAUCAAGCGUCUUGACUUGCCUAAGUGCCGCACGAGCUUAUUGAACGACUAAGUCCGUGACAAGUGGUAUCAGAGCAUGGUUACAAGGUGGGCAUAGCAAAGGAAGCAUGUCGGGCUCUAACGUGGAGGAGACUAGUGAGCAAACCCGUGGAAGGGAGACCGAGCCUACUGCACGGGGCAGGGGUAGGAAGGAUAAAUCUCGUGAUGCCAUUGCCAACAUGGAGGCAAGGUUAGCCAAGGUGGAGCUAGCCAUGGCGGACACUCGGGAGGGGUUGGACUUGAUCGAGCAAGGCAUGGAGAAGGGCUUAGAGGAUCUAAGGGAACAGAUCCAAGACCUUCGUGAGAGGGUGCUAGUCUCAAAAGUUCAGCCAGUGUCGCACGAGGAGUUUGUGUCCUUCCAAGGAAAGGUCUUGAGCAUGCUUGCUAGCAUGGAGUCAAGGAUAGAGGCCUUGACCACUCGAAUGGAGUCCCGAGACCAGGAAGUUAGGCAGGAGUUGGCCAUUUACAAGGCUGCUGUGUCGGCACGGGUCAUGGCCACACAAGGGGCAUCUAGGGUGGAGGUGCCGAAGCCACAAGGGUUUAGUGGCAAGAGGGAUGCCAAGGAGUUAGAUAACUUCUUAUGGCAUAUGGAGCGAUACUUCGAAGCUAUCGCAUUGACGGAUGAGGCGGCUAAGGUGAGAAUUGCGACCCUCUACCUUACUGACACAGCUACUCUAUGGUGGCGUCGAAGGUUUGCCGAUAUGGAGAAAGGCAUUUGCACCAUAAAGACGUGGGAGGACUUCAAGAAGGAGAUCAAGAGGCAGUUCUACCCCGAGGACGUGGCUUACCUGGCUAGGAAAAACAUGAGGCGUCUCAAGCACACAGGCUCGAUACGUGAAUAUGUCAAGGAAUUCUCUUCGCUCAUGCUUGAGAUUCCUAACAUGACUCAGGAAGAGUUGCUAUUCAACUUCAUGGAUAACCUGCAAGGGUGGGCCGAGCAGGAAUUAAGGCGCCGGGGCGUUCAAGACUUAGCCACUGCUAUGGCAAUAGCAGAAUCUUUAGCGGAUUAUAAGAGGGGAGACUCCUCCAAGAUUGAGUCUUUAGAGGAUAGCCACGCCAUGGGUGGGGGAGACGAGGAUCUAAUGGACCACAAUGCUCCUAAAAAGGGAUCAAGCAAGACGCCUAACGUCCAAGAAGGAAGGGGUAAGGCGGCAAGCAAGGAGUUCACGCCUAAAAUCAAAUGCUUCCUAUGUGACGGACCACAUUGGGCACGGGAUUGUCCAAAGAGGAAGGCGCUUAGUGCCAUGAUCGAGGAGAGGGAGCAGGAGGAUGAAGCACAUAUGGGCUCAAUGCAGCUACUAGGUGCCCUCCAAUUCAACCCGAAGCCUAGUACGCCUGAGACCUCCUUACUAGCAGGCGUGCAAGUAAAGGAGGAAAAAGGGGAGCGAGCUGAGGUAGCCCACACACGCAUGGAAGAAGUCACCAAGGGAAAGGUGAACUCAAUGGGUAAAAGGAAGCAGCACUCUAAGCAUCGAAAGCGCAUGGGUCUGCAUCCAUCUAAGGCCUCACGGGAGAAGGAGGUGAAGAAUAUCCUAGCUGAACGGGUCACUAGGAGACAAGGGGUCCCUCCUGUGAUAGAGUAUCUAGUCCGAUGGAAAGGACUACCUAAGAGGCCGCUAAGCUGGGAACAUGCGGAUGCCUUGAGAAAAUUCUGGAAACACAUCGAGAGGUUUCAGAAUGAGGCAACGACGAGGACGUCGACGGCAUCGGUGGGGGAGAGUGUCACAGGAUGCUUAAAAUGACCCUCCCCAUGGGCUUAUAUAGGAGGAGGGAAGCUUUUGGAGACUCCUGGAGCCAUCUACACUAAGCCAUUGGUAGGAAGAGUGUGGAAGGUUCUAGAAAUGCCUAGAGAAGUCCACACAACUCUACACUAUGGUAGAAGGCAUGAGAAGGGUCCAAAGCUUUCUAGAGAAAUCUAGAAGUCUCUUGAAUAUUCUAGAAUAGUGUAGGACAUUCUAGAAGUCUCUUGAAUAUUCUAGAAUAGUGUAGGACAUUCUAGAAUAUUCAUGAAUUGUAAGGAACCCUCCAAGGUUCUAGAGAGUUCCAUUGGUGCCUAUAAAUAGGUGAGGGCCUCAUUUGGCCAAGGCACCAAGCAAGUGAGCAUCCAAGCACUUGUAAAGGCUUUCUUGAGAUAAUAAAGCUUCCAUUCUUUAAGGAGUUGCCUACUAAGCUCUUAAGCUUUCGAGUCGCGAGUGUCUUAGCCGAGCAAGCUAAGCAUUGGGGAUCAAGGCUGACUUAGCAAGAUCAAGCGUCUUGACUUGCCUAAGUGCCGCACGAGCUUAGUGAACGACUAAGUCCGUGACACUAGGCCCACUUAGUAACCCUAAGCACACUUAGACACCCUUGGCCCAUUUAGGCACCCUAGGUCCACUUGGGCACUCUAGGCCCAUUUAGGCACCCUAGGUCCACUUAGACACGCGAGGCCCAUUUAAGCACCCUAAGUCCACUUAGGCACCCUUGGCCCAUUUAGGAACCCUAGGCUCAUUUAGGCACCCUAGGUCCACUUAGGGACCCUAAGCCCAUUUAGGCACUCUAGGUCAUAUUAGGCACUCUUGACCCAUUUAGGCACCCUAGGCCCAUUUAUGCACCCUAGGUCCAUUUAGGCACCGUUGGCCCAUUUAGGCACCCUAGGCCCACUUAGGCAACCUUGGCCCAUUUAGGCACCCUAGGUCCAUUUAAACACCCUAGGCUCAUUUAGGCACCCUAGGCCCAUUUAGGCACCCUAGGUCCAAUUAGACACCUUAGGCCCAUUUUGGCACCCUAGGUUCACUUAGGCAUUCUAGACCCAUUUAGGCACCCUAGGUCUACUUAGGCACCCUAGGCCCAUUUAGGCACCCUAGGUCCAUUUAAGCAUCCUUAGCCCAUUUAGGUACCCUAGGCCCAUUUAGGCCCCCUAGGUCCAUUUAGGCCCCCUAGGUCCAUUUAGGCCCCCUAGGUCCAUUUAGGCAUCUUAGGGUCAUUUAGGCAUCCAUAGGCCCAUUUAGGCACCCUAGGUCCACUUAGCCACCUUAGGCCCAUUUAGGCACCCUACGCUCAUUUAGGCACCCUUGGCACAUUUAAGCACCGUAGGCCCACUUAGACACCCUAAGCCCACUUAGACACACUGCACCCAUUUAGGCACCCUAGGUCCACUAAGGCACCUUAGGCCCAUUUAGGCACCCUAGGUCCACUUAGACACCUUAGGCCCAUUUAGGCACCCUAGGCUCAUUUAGGCACCCUUGGCCCAUUUAGGUACCCUAGGCCCAUUUAGGCACACUUGGUCCACUUAGGCACCCUAGGUUCACUUAGGCACCCCAGGUCCAUUUAGGCACCCUUGGCCCAUUUAGGCACCCUACGCCCACUUAGGCACCCUAGGCCCAUAUAGGCACCCUAGGUCCAUUUAGGCACCCUAGGCCCAUUUAGACCCCUUAGGCCCAUUUAGGCACCCUAACCCCACUUAGGCACGCUUGGCCCAUUAGGCACCCUAGCCUCAUUUAGGCACCCUAGGUCCACUUAGGCACCCUAGGCCCAUUCAGGCACCCUUGGUCCACUUAGGCACCCUAGGCCCAUUUAGGCACCCUAAGUCCAAUUAGGCUCUCUAGACCCAUUUAGGCACCUUAGGCAUCCUUGACCCAGUUAUGCACCCUAGGUCCACUUAGACACCUUAGGCCCACCUAGGCACCCUAGGCCCAUUUAGGCACCCUAGGUCCAAUUAGGCACCCUACGCUCAUUUUGGCACCCUAGGCCUAUUUAGGAACCCUAUGUCCACUUAGACAACUUAGGCCCAUUUAGGCACCUUAGGUCCACUUAGGCACUCUAGACCCAUUUAGGCACCUUAGGUUUACUUAGGCACCCUAGACCCAUUUAGGUACCCUAGGUCCAUUUAGGCACCCUUUGCCCAUUUAGGUACCGUAGGCCCACUUAGGUACCCUAGGACUAUUUAGGCAUCCUAGGUCCAUUUAGGCACAUAAGGCUCAUUUAAGCACCCAUAGGCCCAUUUAGGCACCCUAGGUCCACUUAGACACCUUAGGGCUAUUUAGGCACCUUAGGCUCAUUUAGGCACCCUUGGCUCAUUUAGGCACCCUAGGCUCAUUUAGGCACCCUUGGUCCAUUUAGGCACAUAAGGCUCAUUUAAGCACCCAUAGGCCCAUUUAGGCACCCUAGGUCCACUUAGACACCUUAGGGCUAUUUAGGCACCUUAGGCUCAUUUAGGCACCCUUGGCUCAUUUAGGCACCCUAGGCUCAUUUAGGCACCCUUGGUCCAUUUAGGCACAUAAGGCUCAUUUAAGCACCCAUAGGCCCAUUUAGGCACCCUAGGUCCACUUAGACACCUUAGGGCUAUUUAGGCACCUUAGGCUCAUUUAGGCACCCUUGGCUCAUUUAGGCACCCUAGGCUCAUUUAGGCACCCUUGGCCCAUUUAGGCACCCUUGGCCCAUUUCGGCACCCUAGGCCCAUUUAGUAACCCUAAGCCCACUUAGACACCCUUGGCCCAUUUAGGCACCCUAGGUCCACUUAGGCAUUCUAGGCCCAUUUAGGCACCCUAGGUCCACUUAGACACGCUAGGCCCAUUUAAGCACCGUAAGCCCACUUAGGCACCUUUGUCCCAUUUAGGAACCCUAGGCUCAUUUAGGCACCCUAGGUCUACUUAGGCACCCUAAGCCCAUUUAAGCACUCUAGGUCAUAUUAGGCACUCUAGACCCAUUUAGGCACCCUAGGUCCACUUAGGCACCCUAGGCCCAUUUAUGCACCCUAGGUCCAUUUAGGCACCCUUGGCUCAUUUAGGCACCCUAGGCCCACUUAGGCACCCUUGGCCCAUUUAGGCACCCUAGGUCCAUUUAGCCACCCUAGGCUCAUUUAGGCACCCUAGGCCCAUUUAGGCACCCUAGGUCCAAUUAGACACCUUAUGCCCAUUUUGGCACCCUAGGUCCACUUAGGCAUUCUAGACCCAUUUAGGCACCCUAGGUCCACUUAGUCACCUUAGGCCCAUUUAGGCACCCUAGGUCCAUUUUGGCAUCCUUAGCCCAUUUAGGUACCCUAGGCCCAUUUAGGCCCCCUACGUCCAUUUAGGCACCUUAGGGUCAUUUAGGCAUCCAUAGGCCCAUUUAGGCUCUUUAGGUCGACUUAGCCACCUUAGGCCCAUUUAGGCACCCUACGCUCAUUUAGGCACCCUUGGCCCAUUUAGGCACCCUAGGCCCACUUAGACACCCUAAGCCCACACGCUGUGCCUAUUUAGGCACCCUAGGUCCACUUAGGCACCCUAGGCCCAUUUAGGCACCCCGGGUCCAUUAAGGCACCCUUGGCCUAUUUAGGUACCCUAUGCCCAUUUAGGCACCCUAGGUCCAUUUGGGCACCUUAGGGUCAUUUGGGCAUCCAUAGGCCCAUUUAGGCACCCUAGGUGCACUUAGACACCCUUGGCCCAUUUAGGCACCCUAGGCCCACUUAGACACCCCACGCCCACUUAGACACGCUACGCCCAUUUAGGCACCCUAGGUCCACUUAGGCACCAUAGGCCCACUUAGGCACCCCAGGUCCAUUUAGGCACCCUUGGCCCGUUUAGGCACCCUACGCCCACUUAGGCACCCUAGGCCCAUUAAAGCACCCAAGUCCAUUUAAGCACCCUAGGUCCAUUUAAGCACCCUNNNNNNNNNNNNNNNNNNNNNNNNNNNNNNNNNNNNNNNNNNNNNNNNNNNNNNNNNNNNNNNNNNNNNNNNNNNNNNNNNNNNNNNNNNNNNNNNNNNNUAGUCCAUUUGGCAUCCUUAGCCUUUAGGUACCUUAGGUCCAUUUAGGCCCCUUACGGCCAGUUAGGCACCAAGAGUCAUUUAGGCAUCCAUAGUCCCAUUAGGCUCUUUAGGUCGAUUUAGACACUUAGGCCCAUUUAGGCAACCNUACGGUCAUUUAGGCACCCUUGGCCCAUAUAGGCACCGUAGGCCCACUUAGACACCCUAAGCCACACGCUGUGCCUAAUUAGGCACCUUAGGUCCAAAUAGGCACCCUAGGCCCAUUUAGGCACCCCGGGUCCAUUAAGGCACCCUUGGCCUAUUUAGGUACCCUAUGCCCAUUUAGGCACCCUAGGUCCAUUUGGGCACCUUAGGGUCAUUUGGGCAUCCAUAGGCCCAUUUAGGCACCCUAGGUGCACUUAGACACCCUUGGCCCAUUUAGGCACCCUAGGCCCACUUAGACACCCCACGCCCACUUAGACACGCUACGCCCAUUUAGGCACCCUAGGUCCACUUAGGCACCAUAGGCCCACUUAGGCACCCCAGGUCCAUUUAGGCACCCUUGGCCCGUUUAGGCACCCUACGCCCACUUAGGCACCCUAGGCCCAUUUAGGCACCCAAGGUCCAUUUAGGCACCCUAGGCCCAUUUAGGCACCCUAGGUCCACUUAGACACCUUAGGCCCAUUUAGGUACCCUAAGCCCACUUAGGCACCCUAGGCCCAUUUAGGCACCCUAAGUCCAAUUAGGCUCUCUAGACCCAUUUAGGCACCUUAGGCAUCCUUGGCCCAGUUAUGCACCCUAGGUCCACUUAGACACCUUAGGCCCACUUAGGCACCCUAGGCCCAUUUAGGCACCCUAGGUCCAAUUAGGCACCCUACGCUCAUUUUGGCACCCUAGGCCUAUUUAGGAACCCUAUGUCCACUUAGACAACUUAGGCCCAUUUAGGCACCUUAGGUCCACUUAGGCACUCUAGACCCAUUUAGGCACCUUAGGUCUACUUAGGCACCCUAGACCCAUUUAGGUACCCUAGGUCCAUUUAGGCACCCUUUGCCCAUUUAGGUACCGUAGGCCCACUUAGGUACCCUAGGACUAUUUAGGCAUCCUAGGUCCAUUUAGGCACAUAAGGCUCAUUUAAGCACCCAUAGGCCCAUUUAGGCACCCUAGGUCCACUUAGACACCUUAGGGCUAUUUAGGCACCUUAGGCUCGUUUAGGCACCCUUGGCUCAUUUAGGCACCCUAGGCUCAUUUAGGCACCCUUGGCCCAUUUAGGCACCCUUGGCCCAUUUCGGCACCCUAGGUCCAUUUAGUAACCCUAAGCCCACUUAGACACCCUUGGCCCAUUUAGGCACCCUAGGUCCACUUAGGCAUUCUAGGCCCAUUUAGGCACCCUAGGUCCACUUAGACACGCUAGGCCCAUUUAAGCACCGUAAGCCCACUUAGGCACCCUUGUCCCGUUUAGGAACCCUAGGCUCAUUUAGGCACCCUAGGUCUACUUAGGCACCCUAAGCCCAUUUAAGCACUCUAGGUCAUAUUAGGCACUCUAGACCCAUUUAGGCACCCUAAGUCCACUUAGGCACCCUAGGCCCAUUUAUGCACCCUAGGUCCAUUUAGGCACCCUUGGCUCAUUUAGGCACCCUAGGCCCACUUAGGCACCCUUGGCCCAUUUAGGCACCCUAGGUCCAUUUAGCCACCCUAGGCUCAUUUAGGCACCCCAGGCCCAUUUAGGCACCCUAGGUCCAAUUAGACACCUUAUGCCCAUUUUGGCACCCUAGGUCCACUUAGGCAUUCUAGACCCAUUUAGGCACCCUAGGUCCACUUAGUCACCUUAGGCCCAUUUAGGCACCCUAGGUCCAUUUUGGCAUCCUUAGCCCAUUUAGGUACCCUAGGCCCAUUUAGGCCCCCUACGUCCAUUUAGGCACCUUAGGGUCAUUUAGGCAUCCAUAGGCCCAUUUAGGCUCUUUAGGUCGACUUAGCCACCUUAGGCCCAUUUAGGCACCCUACGCUCAUUUAGGCACCCUUGGCCCAUUUAGGCACCCUAGGCCCACUUAGACACCAUAAGCCCACACGCUGCGCCUAUUUAGGCACCCUAGGUCCACUUAGGCACCCUAGGCCCAUUUAGGCACCCCGGGUCCAUUAAGGCACCCUUGGCCUAUUUAGGUACCCUAUGCCCAUUUAGGCACCCUAGGUCCAUUUGGGCACCUUAGGGUCAUUUGGGCAUCCAUAGGCCCAUUUAGGCACCCUAGGUGCACUUAGACACCCUUGGCCCAUUUAGGCACCCUAGGCCCACUUAGACACCCCACGCCCACUUAGACACGCUACGCCCAUUUAGGCACCCUAGGUCCACUUAGGCACCAUAGGCCCACUUAGGCACCCUAGGUCCACUUAGGCACCCCAGGUCCAUUUAGGCACCCUUGGCCCGUUUAGGCACCCUACGCCCACUUAGGCACCCUAGGCCCAUUUAGGCACCCAAGGUCCAUUUAGGCACCCUAGGCCCAUUUAGGCACCCUAGGUCCACUUAGACACCUUAGGCCCAUUUAGGUACCCUAAGCCCACUUAGGCACCCUUGGCCCAUUUAGGCACUCUAGGCUCAUUUGGGCACCCUAGGUCCACUUAGGCACCCUAGGCCCAUUUAGGCACCCUUGGUACACUUAGGCACCCUAGGCCCAUUUAGUCACCCUAAGUCCAGUUAGGCACUCUAGACCCAUUUAGGCACCUUAGGCCCACUUAGGCAUUGUUGGCCCAUUUAGGCACCCUAGGUCCACUUAGACACCUUUGGCCCACUUAAGCACCCUAGGCCCUUUUAGGCGCCCUAGGUCCCUUUAGGAACCCUUGGCUCAUUUAGGCACCCUAGGCCCACUUAGGCACCCUAGGCCCAUUUAGGCACUCUAGGUCCAUUUAGGCACCUUAGGCUCAUUUAGGCACCUUAGGCCCAUUUAGGAACCCUAUGUCUACUUAGACACCUUUUGCCCAUUUAGGCACCCUAGGUCCACUUAGGCACUCUAGACCCAUUUAGGCACCCUAGGUCCACUUAGGCACCCUAGGCCCAUUUAGGCACCUUAGGUCCAUUUAGGCUCUCUAGGCCCAUUUCGGCACCAUAGGUCCACUAAGACACGCUAGGCACAUUUAAGCACCUAAGCACCCUAGGCACAUUUACGAACCUAAGGCUCAUUUAGGCACUCAUGGGCCCAUUUAGGCCCCCUAGGUCCACUUAGACACCUUAGGCUCAUUUAGGCACCCGAGGCUCAUUUAGGCACCCUUGGCCCAUUUAGGCACCUAGGCUCAUUUAGGCACCUUUGGCCCAUUUAGGCACCCUAGGCCCACUUAGACACCCUGAGCCCACUUAGACAUCCUUGGCCCAUUUAGGCACCCUAGGUCCAAUUAGGCUCUCUAGGCCCAUUUCGGCACCCUAGGUCCACUAAGACACGCUAGGAACAUUUAAGCACCCUAAGCCCACUUAGGCACCCUUGGCCCAUUUACGAACCCUAGGCUCAUUUAGGCACCAUAGGUCCACUUAGGUACCCUAGGCCCAUUUAGGCAUUCUAGGUCCAAUUAGGCACUUUAGACCCAUUUGGGCACCCUAGGUCCACUUAGGCACCCUAGGCCCAUUUAGGCACCCUAGGUCCACUCAGGCACCCUAGGCCGAUUUAGGCACCCUUGGUCCACUUAAGCACCCUAGGCCCAUUUUGGCACCCUAGGUCCAGUUAGCCACUCUAGACCCAUUUAGGCACCUUAGGUCCACUUAAGCAUCCUUGGCCCAUUUUGGCACCCUAGGUCCACUUAGGCACUCUAGUCCCAUUUAGGCACCCUAGGUCCACUUAGGCACCCUAGGCCCAUUUAGGCACCCUAGGUCCAUUUAGGCACCCUAGGUCCAUUUAGGCACCCUAGGUCCAUGUAGGCACCCUAGGCUCAUUUAGGCACCCUAGGCCAAUUUAGACACCCUAGGUCCACUUAGACAGCUUAGGCCCAUUUAGGCACCCUAGGUCCACUUAGGCACCCUUGGCCCAUUAAGGCACCCUAGGUCCAUUUAGGCACCCUUGGCCCAUUUAGGUACCCUAGGCCCAUUUAGGCACCUUAGGUCCAUUUAGGCAGCUUAGUGUCACAAGAUGCUUCAAAUGACCCUCCCCAUGGCUUAUAUAGGAGGUGAGAAGCUUCUAGAGACCCUUGGAGACAUCCACACUUAGCCACUAGUGGGAAGAGUGUGGAAGGUUCUAGAAAUGCCUAGAGAAGUCCACACAACUCUACACUAUGGUAGAAGGCAUGAGAAGGGUCCAAAGCUUUCUAGAGAAAUCUAGAAGUCUCUUGAAUAUUCUAGAAUAGUGUAGGACAUUCUAGAAGUCUCUUGAAUAUUCUAGAAUAGUGUAGGACAUUCUAGAAUAUUCAUGAAUUAUAAGGAACCCUCCAAGGUUCUAGAGAGUUCCAUUGAUGCCUAUAAAUAGGUGAGGGCCUCAUUUGGCCAAGGCACCAAGCAAGUGAGCAUCCAAGCACUUGUAAAGGCUUUCUUGAGAUAAUAAAGCUUCCAUUCUUUAAGGAGUUGCCUACUAAGCUCUUAAGCUUUCGAGUCGCGAGUGUCUUAACCGAGCAAGCUAAGCAUUGGGGAUCAAGGCUGACUUAGCNNNNNNNNNNNNNNNNNNNNNNNNNNNNNNNNNNNNNNNNNNNNNNNNNNNNNNNNNNNNNNNNNNNNNNNNNNNNNNNNNNNNNNNNNNNNNNNNNNNNGCACCUUAGGUCCAUUUUUGCAGCUUAGUGUCACAAGAUGCUUCAAAUGACCCUCCCCAUGGCUUAUAUAGGAGGUGAGAAGCUUCUAGAGACCCUUGGAGACAUCCACACUUAGCCACUAGUGGGAAGAGUGUGGAAGGUUCUAGAAAUGCCUAGAGAAGUCCACACAACUCUACACUAUGGUAGAAGGCAUGAGAAGGGUCCAAAGCUUUCUAGAGAAAUCUAGAAGUCUCUUGAAUAUUCUAGAAUAGUGUAGGACAUUCUAGAAGUCUCUUGAAUAUUCUAGAAUAGUGUAGGACAUUCUAGAAUAUUCAUGAAUUAUAAGGAACCCUCCAAGGUUCUAGAGAGUUCCAUUGAUGCCUAUAAAUAGGUGAGGGCCUCAUUUGGCCAAGGCACCAAGCAAGUGAGCAUCCAAGCACUUGUAAAGGCUUUCUUGAGAUAAUAAAGCUUCCAUUCUUUAAGGAGUUGCCUACUAAGCUCUUAAGCUUUCGAGUCGCGAGUGUCUUAACCGAGCAAGCUAAGCAUUGGGGAUCAAGGCUGACUUAGCAAGAUCAAGCGUCUUGACUUGCCUAAGUGCCGCACGAGCUUAGUGAACGACUAAGUCCGUGACAAGUGGCAUCAGAGCGUGGCUACGAAGCGGGCAUAAGGGAAGCAUGUCGGGCUCUAACGUGGAGGAGACUAGCGAACAAACCCGUGGGAGGGAGGCCGAGCCUACUGCAUGGGGCAGGGGCAGAGGUAAGAAGGAUACAUCUCGUGAUGUUGUUGCCAACAUGGAGGCAAGGUUAGGCAAGGUGGAGCUAGCCAUGGCAGACACCCGGGAAGGGGUGGACUUGAUCGAGCAAGGCAUGGAGAAGGGCUUAGAGGAUCUAAGGGAGCAGAUCCAAGACCUUCGCGAGGGGGUGCUGGUCUCGCAAGUUCAACCGGUGUCACACGAGGAGUUCAUGUCUUUCCAAGACAAAGUCAUGAGCAUGUUCGCUAGUGUGGAGUCAAGGAUGGAGGCCUUGACUACACGAGUGGAGGCCCGAGACCAAGAGAUUCGACAAGAGUUGGCCAUCUAUAAGACCGCUGUAUCAGCACGAGUCAUGGCCACUCAUGAGGCACCAAGGGUGGAGGUGCCCAAGCCACACACGUUCAGUGGCAAGAGGGAUGCCAGGGAGCUAGAUAACUUCUUGUGGCACAUGGAGCGUUACUUUGAGGCAAUUGCAUUAACGGAUGAAGCCACUAAGGUACGCACCGCGACCCUUUACCUCACUGAUAAUGCUACUCUAUGGUGGCGUCGACGAUUUGCCGACAUAGAGAGAGGGACGUGCACCAUAGACACAUGGGAUGCCUUUAAGAGAGAAAUCAAGAGGCAAUUCUAUCCCGAAGACGUGGCUUACCUAGCAAGGAAGAGUUUGAAGCGUCUCAAGCACACGGGCUCGAUCCGUGAGUAUGUCAAAGAAUUCUCUACUCUUAUGCUUGAGAUACCUAACAUGGCUGAGGAGGAGCUACUGUUCAACUUCAUGGACAACUUGCAAAGUUGGGCCGAGCAAGAGUUGAGGAGACGUGGUGUCCAAGACCUAGCCACGGCCAUGGCAGUAGCCGAGUCCUUAGUAGAUUAUAGAAGGGGAGACUCCUCCAAGCCCAAGCCACCAUCCAAGGGUAACCAGGCCAAAGGUGGGGGAGACAAGAGGUCGCAAGGCCAUACCUCUAAGGAAGGAUCAAGCAAAGGCCCUAGUGGCAAGGAUGGCAAAGGCAAGGACAAGCGAAAGGAGUUCACGCCCAGGACCAAUUGCUUCCUGUGCGAUGGUCCGCACUGGGCACGGGACUGCCCUAAGAGGAAGGCCUUAAAUGCUAUGAUCGAGGAAAAGGAGCAAGAAGGCGAUGCUAAGAUGGGAUCGUUGCAGCUCUUAAAUGCCCUUAAGGCCAAGCCGAUGCCUAAGACGCCUCAAAGCAAAGGGCUGAUGUAUGUGGAGGCCCUUGUGAAUGAGAAGGCCACCAAGGCCCUGGUGGACACAGGUGCCACUCACAACUUUGUCUCGGAGGAUGAGGCAAGAAGGUUGGAGCUCCAAGCAUCCAAGGAAGGAGGAUGGCUCAAGGCAGUCAAUUCAGCCGCCAAGCCAUCACAUGGAGUAGCUCGCGGGGUGACUAUGCACAUUGGCUCGUGGGAAGGAAGGGUCGACUUCACAGUGGCACCCAUGGAUGACUUCAAGAUGGUGCUAGGAAUGGACUUCCUACAGAAGGUCAAGGCCGUGCCACUACCUUUCCUAUGCUCAAUGGCUAUCCUAGAGGAGGAGAAGUCGUGCAUGGUCCCUACGGUCAAUGAAGGUACGCUCAAGACCCCUAUGUUAUCCGCUAUGCAAGUAAAGAAGGGGUUAAAGAGGGAAGAGGUGACCUACCUCGCCACCCUAAAGGAAGAAAAGGAUGAUGGGUCGGGAGAACCCAUGCCUAGAGAAAUCGAGGGGGUCCUUGAUGAGUUCAAGGACGUUAUGCCGCCCGAGUUGCCCAAAAGACUUUCUCCUAGGAGAGAGGAAGAUCACAAGAUUGAGCUGGAGCCGGGAGCCAAGCCCCCUGCUAUGGGGCCAUAUAGGAUGGCACCACCCGAGUUGGAGGAGCUAAGGAGACAACUCAAGGAGUUGCUAGAUGCGGGGUUCAUCCAACCAUCCAAGGCUCCUUAUGGCGCGCCGGUUCUAUUUCAGAAAAAGCAUGAUGGGUCCCUACGAAUGUGCAUAGAUUACCGGGCACUCAACAAGGUGACGGUGAAGAACAAGUAUCCCAUCCCGCUCAUUGCUGACUUGUUCGAUCAACCUGGUAGGGCAAGGUACUUCACGAAGCUAGACUUAAGGUUAGGCUACUACCAAGUGAGGAUUGCUGAGGGAGAUGAGCCGAAGACUACAUGUGUGACCAGGUAUGGCUCAUAUGAGUUCUUAGUAAUGCCUUUCGGAAUCACCAAUGCCCCAGCAACGUUUUGCACCCUCAUGAACAAGAUCUUCCACCCAUACUUGGACAAGUUUGUGGUGGUGUACUUGGAUGACAUAGUCAUCUAUAGUAACACUCUAAAGGAGCACGUAGAGCACUUGAGGAAGGUCUUUAAGAUCUUGAGGCAGAACGAGCUAUACGUGAAGAAGGAGAAGUGUUCGUUUGCUAAGGAGGAAGUGAGCUUCCUUGGGUAUCGCAUCAGAGAUGGCAAGCUGAUGAUGGAUGAUAGCAAGGUGAAGGCCAUCCAAGAAUGGGAUUCACCAACCAAGGUACCUCAACUCAGAUCUUUCCUUGGUUUAGUUAAUUACUAUCGGCGGUUCAUAAAGGGUUAUUCGGCAAGGGCUGCUCCACUCACUGAUCUUCUGAAGAAGAAUAAGGCAUGGGAAUGGGAUGAAAGGUGCCAACAAGCCUUUGAGGACCUGAAGAAGGUUGUGACUGAGGAGCCAGUGUUGGCACUACCCGACCACACCAAGGUCUUGGAGGUACACACAGAUGCCUCAGACUUCGCUAUUGGGGGAGUCCUUAUGCAAGAAAGACACCCAAUUGCAUUUGAGAGUCGCAAGCUAAACGACGCGGAGAGGCGUUACACGGUGCAAGAAAAGGAGAUGACCGCUAUCGUUCACUGCUUGCGCACCUGGAGGCACUAUUUGCUAGGGUCUCACUUCAUAGUGAAGACCGACAAUGUGGCCACUAGCUACUUCCAGACACAGAAGAAGCUGAGUCCUAAACAAGCUAGGUGGCAAGACUUCCUGGCCGAGUUCGACUAUACGCUGGAGUAUAAGCCAGGAAGUGCUAAUCAUGUGGCUGACGCCGUAAGUCCCAAAGCUGAGCUAGCGUCCAUAACGAGUCAGCCCCAAGGAGACAUAAUGGAUCUUCUAAGGGAGGGACUGUAACAUAAUCCAGUGGCUAAGAGCCUCAUCGCCCUGGCUCAUGAAGGGAAGACCAAGCGGUUUUGGGUGGAGGACGGCUUACUCUACACCAAAGGGAGACGACUCUACGUGCCUAAGUGGGGGAACAUAAGGCGGAACCUGAUUAAGGAGUGCCAUGACACCAAGUGGGCAGGGCACCCUGGGCAACGACGCACUAGGGCACUACUCGAGUCGGCUUACUAUUGGCCUCAGAUACGGGACGAGGUUGAGGCCUAUGUGAGGACUUGUCUUGUGUGCCAACAAGACAAGGUGGAACAACGACAACCUAGAGACAUGUUAGAGCCACUACCUGUAGCAGAACGCCCAUGGGACAGCGUCACCAUGGACUUCAUCAUCGGGCUACCUAAGUUAGAGGACAACGACUCUAUCAUAGUGGUGGUGGAUAGGUUCUCUAAGUAUGCAACCUUCAUAGCAGCCCCGACUGACUGCACUGCGGAAGAGACGGCGAGGCUAUUCCUAAAGCACGUAGUCAAGUAUUGGGGGUUGCCUAAGUUCAUCAUCAGUGAUCGCGACCCGCGCUUCACUGGGAAGUUUUGGACGAAGCUCUUCAAGCUUAUGGGUUCGGAGCUUCACUUCUCCACCAGCUUUCACCCACAGACAGAUGGGCAGACUGAGAGGGUGAACGCCUUGCUGGAGCUAUACUUGAGGCACUUUGUGAGUGCCAACCAGAGGGAUUGGGCUAAGUUGCUAGAUAUAGCCCAGUUCUCAUACAACUUGCAAAGGAGUGAGGCGACCAACAAGAGCCCGUUCGAGCUAGCCACAAGGCAGCAACCCUUAACUCCUCACACGCUAACGAUAGGCUACACAGGGAGAAGUCCAGCGGCUUUCAAGUUCGCGAAGGGGUGGCAUGAGUAAGCUGACAUAGCACGCUCGUACUUGGACAAGGCCGCUAAGAAAAUGAAGAAGUGGGCUGACAAGAAGCGACGUCACACGGAGUACAAGGUUGGAGACAUGGUGCUUGUCAAGCUCCUUCCUCAACAAUUCAAAUCCCUAAGGCCAGUGCAUAAGGGCCUUGUGAGGAGGUAUGAAGGACCCUUCCCUAUACUUGGAAAGGUCGGCAAGGUGUCCUACAAAGUGGAGUUACCGCCAAGGUUAAAGAUUCACCUUGUCUUCCACAUGAGUUACUUGAAGCCAUAUCACGAAGACAAGGAUGAUCCAAGCCGAGGGCUUUCUAAGAGGGCACCUACAGCGGUUGUGACCUCCUAUGACAAGGAGGUGGAACACAUCAUUGCAGACCGAAUCAUCAGAAGGCGUGGUGUGCCUCCUGCUACGGAGUACUUAGUGAAAUGGAAGGGACUACCAGAAAGCGAGGCUAGUUGGGAGCCAGCAAAUGCACUAUGGCAGUUCCAGGAACAGAUUGAGCGGUUCCGGGCAGAAGACACGACGAGGACGUCUGCGGCUUAGGUGGGGGAGAGUGUCACAAGAUGCUUCAAAUGACCCUCCCCAUGGCUUAUAUAGGAGGUGAGAAGCUUCUAGAGACCCUUGGAGACAUCCACACUUAGCCACUAGUGGGAAGAGUGUGGAAGGUUCUAGAAAUGCCUAGAGAAGUCCACACAACUCUACACUAUGGUAGAAGGCAUGAGAAGGGUCCAAAGCUUUCUAGAGAAAUCUAGAAGUCUCUUGAAUAUUCUAGAAUAGUGUAGGACAUUCUAGAAGUCUCUUGAAUAUUCUAGAAUCGUGUAGGAGAUUCUAGAGAGUUCCAUUGGUGCCUAUAAAUAGGUGAGGGCCUCAUUUGGCCAAGGCACCAAACAAAGUGAGCAUCCAAGCACUUGUAAAGGCUUCUUUGAGUAAUAAGAGCUUCCAUUAUUUAAAAGUUGCCUACUACACUUCUCAGCUUCCGAGUCGUGAGCAUCUUAGCCUAGCAAGCUAAGUGUCGGGGGUAAGGCUGACUUAGCAAGANNNNNNNNNNNNNNNNNNNNNNNNNNNNNNNNNNNNNNNNNNNNNNNNNNNNNNNNNNNNNNNNNNNNNNNNNNNNNNNNNNNNNNNNNNNNNNNNNNNNNNNNNNNNNNNNNNNNNNNNNNNNNNNNNNNNNNNNNNNNNNNNNNNNNNNNNNNNNNNNNNNNNNNNNNNNNNNNNNNNNNNNNNNNNNNNNNNNNNNNNNNNNNNNNNNNNNNNNNNNNNNNNNNNNNNNNNNNNNNNNNNNNNNNNNNNNNNNNNNNNNNNNNNNNNNNNNNNNNNNNNNNNNNNNNNNNNNNNNNNNNNNNNNNNNNNNNNNNNNNNNNNNNNNNNNNNNNNNNNNNNNNNNNNNNNNNNNNNNNNNNNNNNNNNNNNNNNNNNNNNNNNNNNNNNNNNNNNNNNNNNNNNNNNNNNNNNNNNNNNNNNNNNNNNNNNNNNNNNNNNNNNNNNNNNNNNNNNNNNNNNNNNNNNNNNNNNNNNNNNNNNNNNNNNNNNNNNNNNNNNNNNNNNNNNNNNNNNNNNNNNNNNNNNNNNNNNNNNNNNNNNNNNNNNNNNNNNNNNNNNNNNNNNNNNNNNNNNNNNNNNNNNNNNNNNNNNNNNNNNNNNNNNNNNNNNNNNNNNNNNNNNNNNNNNNNNNNNNNNNNNNNNNNNNNNNNNNNNNNNNNNNNNNNNNNNNNNNNNNNNNNNNNNNNNNNNNNNNNNNNNNNNNNNNNNNNNNNNNNNNNNNNNNNNNNNNNNNNNNNNNNNNNNNNNNNNNNNNNNNNNNNNNNNNNNNNNNNNNNNNNNNNNNNNNNNNNNNNNNNNNNNNNNNNNNNNNNNNNNNNNNNNNNNNNNNNNNNNNNNNNNNNNNNNNNNNNNNNNNNNNNNNNNNNNNNNNNNNNNNNNNNNNNNNNNNNNNNNNNNNNNNNNNNNNNNNNNNNNNNNNNNNNNNNNNNNNNNNNNNNNNNNNNNNNNNNNNNNNNNNNNNNNNNNNNNNNNNNNNNNNNNNNNNNNNNNNNNNNNNNNNNNNNNNNNNNNNNNNNCAUUUAGGAACCCUAGGCUUAUUUAGGCACCCUAGGUCUACUUAGGCACCCUAAGCCCAUUUAGGCACUCUAGGUCAUAUUAGGCACUCUAGACCCAUUUAGGCACCCUAGGUCCACUUAGGCACCCUAGGCCCAUUUAUGCACCCUAGGUCCAUUUAGGCACCCUUGGCCCAUUUAGGCACCCUAGGCCCACUUAGGCACCCUUGGCCCAUUUAGGCACCCUAGGUCCAUUUAGCCACCCUAGGCUCAUUUAGGCACCCCAGGCCCAUUUAGGCACCCUAGGUCCAAUUAGACACCUUAUGCCCAUUUUGGCACCCUAGGUCCACUUAGGCAUUCUAGACCCAUUUAGGCACCCUAGGUCCACUUAGUCACCUUAGGCCCAUUUAGGCACCCUAGGUCCAUUUUGGCAUCCUUAGCCCAUUUAGGUACCCUAGGCCCCCUAGGUCCAUUUAGGCACCUUAGGGUCAUUUAGGCAUCCAUAGGCCCAUUUAGGCUCCCUAGGUCUACUUAGCCACCUUAGGCCCAUUUAGGCACCCUAAGCCCAUUUAGGCACUCUAGGUCAUAUUAGGCACUCUAGACCCAUUUAGGCACCCUAGGUCCACUUAGGCACCCUAGGCCCAUUUAUGCACCCUAGGUCCAUUUAGGUACCCUUGGCCCAUUUAGGCACCCUAGGCCCACUUAGGCACCCUAGGCCCAUUUAGGCACCUAAGGUCCAAUUUGGCACCCUAGGUCCACUUAGGCACCCUAGGCCCAUUUAGGCACCGUAGGUCCAUUUAGGCACCCUUAGCCCAUUUAGGCACCCUAGGCCCAUUUAGGCACCCUAGGCCCAAUUAGGCACCCUAGGUCCAUUUAGGCACCCUAGGUCCACUUAGACACCUUGGCCCAUUUAGGCACCCUAGGUCCACUUAGGCACUCUAGGCCCAUUUAGGCACCCUAGGUCCACUUAGACACGCUAGGCCCAUUUAAGCACCCUAAGCCCACUUAGGCACCCUUGUCCCAUUUAGGAACCCUAGGCUUAUUUAGGCACCCUAGGUCUACUUAGGCACCCUAAGCCCAUUUAGGCACUCUAGGUCAUAUUAGGCACUCUAGACCCAUUUAGGCACCCUAGGUCCACUUAGGCACCCUAGGCCCAUUUAUGCACCCUAGGUCCAUUUAGGCACCCUUGGCCCAUUUAGGCACCCUAGGCCCACUUAGGCACCCUUGGCCCAUUUAGGCACCCUAGGUCCAUUUAGCCACCCUAGGCUCAUUUAGGCACCCCAGGCCCAUUUAGGCACCCUAGGUCCAAUUAGACACCUUAUGCCCAUUUUGGCACCCUAGGUCCACUUAGCAUUCUAGACCCAUUUAGCACCCUAGGUCCACUUAGUCACCUUAGCCCAUUUAGCACCCUAUGUCCAUUUUGGCAUCCUUAGCCCAUUUAGUACCCUAAGGCCCCCUAGUCCAUUUAGCACCUUUAGGGUCAUUUAAGGCAUCCAUAGGCCAUUUAAGCUCCCUAGGUCUANNNNNNNNNNNNNNNNNNNNNNNNNNNNNNNNNNNNNNNNNNNNNNNNNNNNNNNNNNNNNNNNNNNNNNNNNNNNNNNNNNNNNNNNNNNNNNNNNNNNCAGAAAGCGAGGCUAGUUGGGAGCCAGCAAAUGCACUAUGGCAGUUCCAGGAACAGAUUGAGCGGUUCCGGGCAGAAGACACGACGAGGACGUCUGCGGCUUAGGUGGGGGAGAGUGUCACAAGAUGCUUCAAAUGACCCUCCCCAUGGCUUAUAUAGGAGGUGAGAAGCUUCUAGAGACCCUUGGAGACAUCCACACUUAGCCACUAGUGGGAAGAGUGUGGAAGGUUCUAGAAAUGCCUAGAGAAGUCCACACAACUCUACACUAUGGUAGAAGGCAUGAGAAGGGUCCAAAGCUUUCUAGAGAAAUCUAGAAGUCUCUUGAAUAUUCUAGAAUAGUGUAGGACAUUCUAGAAGUCUCUUGAAUAUUCUAGAAUAGUGUAGGACAUUCUAGAAUAUUCAUGAAUUAUAAGGAACCCUCCAAGGUUCUAGAGAGUUCCAUUGGUGCCUAUAAAUAGGUGAGGGCCUCAUUUGGCCAAGGCACCAAGCAAGUGAGCAUCCAAGCACUUGUAAAGGCUUUCUUGAGAUAAUAAAGCUUCCAUUCUUUAAGGAGUUGCCUACUAAGCUCUUAAGCUUUCGAGUCGCGAGUGUCUUAGCCGAGCAAGCUAAGCACUGGGGAUCAAGGCUGACUUAGCAAGAUCAAGCGUCUUGACUUGCCUAAGUGCCGCACGAGCUUAGUGAACGACUAAGUCCGUGACAUUAGGCUCAUUUAGGCACCCAUAAGCCCAUUUUGGCACCCUAGGUCCACUUAGACACCUUAGGCCCAUUUAGGUACCCUAGGCUCAUUUAGGCACCCUUGGUCCAUUUAGGCACCCUAGGCCUACUUAGACACCCUAAGCCCACUUAGACACGCUACGCCCAUUUAGGCACCCUAGGUCCACUUAGGCACCUUAGGCCCACUUAGGCACCCUUGGCCCAUUUAGGCACCCUAGGUCCACUUAGGCACUCUAGGCCUAUUUAGGCACCCUAGGUCCACUUAGGCACCCUAGGCCCAUUUAGGCACCCUAGGUCCACUUAGACACCUUAGGCCCAUUUAGGCACCCUAAUGUCACAAAAUGCUUCAAAUGACCCUCCCCAUGGCUUAUAUAGGAGGUAAGAAGCUUCUAGAGACCCUUGGAGACAUGCACACUUAGCCACUAGUGGGAAGAGUGUGGAAGGUUCUAGAAAUGCCUAGAGAAGUCCACACAACUCUACACUAUGGUAGAAGGCAUGAGAAGGGUCCAAAGUUUUCUAGAGAAAUCUAGAAGUUUCUUGUAUAUAGGCUUGUACAUAGAAUAGUGUACGACAUUCUAGAAUAUUCAUGAAUUGUAAGGAACCCUCCAAGGUUCUAGAAAGUUCCAUUUGUGCCUAUAAAUAGGUGAGGGCCUCAUUUGGCCAAGGCACCAAACAAGUGAGCAUCCAAGCACUUGUAAAGGCUUUCUUGAGUUAAUAAGAGCUUCCAUUCUUUAAGGAGUUGCCUACUAAGCUCUUAAGCUUUCGAGUCGCGAGUGUCUUAGCCGAGCAAGCUAAGCGUUGGGGAUCAAGGCUGACUUAGCAAGAUCAAGCGUCUUGACUUGCCUAAGUGCCGCACAAGCUUAGUGAACGACUAAUUCCGUGACACUAAGCCCACUUAGGCACCCUUUGCCCAUUUAGGCACCCUAGGCUCAUUUAGGCACCCUAGGUCCACUUAGGCACCCUAGGCCCAUUUAGGCACCCUAGGUCCACUUAGGCACCCUAGGCCCAUUUAGGCACCGUAGGUCCAUUUAGGCACCCUUAGCCCAUUUAGGCACCCUAGGCCCAUUUAGGCACCCUAGGCCCAAUUAGGCACCCUAGGUCCAUUUAGGCACCCUAGGUCCACUUAGACACCUUGGCCCAUUUAGGCACCCUAGGUCCACUUAGGCACUCUAGGCCCAUUUAGGCACCCUAGGUCCACUUAGACACGCUAGGCCCAUUUAAGCACCCUAAGCCCACUUAGGCACCCUUGUCCCAUUUAGGAACCCUAGGCUUAUUUAGGCACCCUAGGUCUACUUAGGCACCCUAAGCCCAUUUAGGCACUCUAGGUCAUAUUAGGCACUCUAGACCCAUUUAGGCACCCUAGGUCCACUUAGGCACCCUAGGCCCAUUUAUGCACCCUAGGUCCAUUUAGGCACCCUUGGCCCAUUUAGGCACCCUAGGCCCACUUAGGCACCCUUGGCCCAUUUAGGCACCCUAGGUCCAUUUAGCCACCCUAGGCUCAUUUAGGCACCCCAGGCCCAUUUAGGCACCCCAGGUCCAAUUAGACACGUUGCGCCCAUUUAGGCACCCUAGGUCCACUUAGGCACCAUAGGCCCACUUAGGCACCCUAGGUCCACUUAGGCACCCCAGGUCCAUUUAGGCACCCUUGGCCAAUUUAGGCACCCUACGCCCACUUAGGCACCCUAGGCCCAUUUAGGCACCCAAGGUCCAUUUAGGCACCCUAGGCCCAUUUAGGGACCCUAGGCCCACUUAGACACCUUAGGCCCAUUUAGGUACCCUAAGCCCACUUAGGCACCUGUGGACACCGCAUUUCGUGCUUGAUGCGUUUCCCACUCGAUGGCGAGCUCGAUUUUUAUUUUGAAAAAUUAAUUUUAUUUAUUGUUUGUUUAAAAAAAUGACUUGGAGUCGCCACUUAUUUUUGUUUUAUUUUUAAAGGGUAAACAAAAUAAGAAAGAAAAACCCUAAGUGUGACUCCUUAUUUUGGAAAAGGCGGUCUGUGAAAAACCGGAUCGGGUUCGGGGGUCAGGUUACUUAUCGGGAAGGUACGGUAAAGACCGUAGCACCCCUCUAAGUCCCUAAAAUCGUGUCUCUACUAAUAGAAUAAAGCUGACGUGGCAAUCAAUGAGGAAAUCAGCGGAUACUCAAAUCAAACUUGCACAUAUGAAAAUAAGAGUAUGCAUAGAGAAUAAUCAAAAUGAGAAUGAGUGCGUACCUGGACCUCCAGUGACAAAUGCGCUAUCAUGAAACAGGAUUAGUGAGCAAUGAACAAGAUAUAAUUAAGCGCAUAUCAAGAAAUAGAGUAAACCAAUCAUGCAUGGCAAAUAAAUCAAUCGAUCUGUCAAUCAAUCAUGAAGUCAAGUAUGUGGGGCCCCCACCAAAGCCCGUUUAUUUUGCAUGAAUUAAUUCCAUAAAUUCCAUUAGUCGGAAUUAUGGAAUUUAAUUCUUGCUUAUUUUUAAAACAUUUUAAAAGAUUAUGAAAGAUUUGAAAAUUGCUUACCGAAUAGAAAGUGGAAGCAAAUUUGAUUAAAAGUGAGACUCUUAGGUGAUCCUAAAAAUUCUAAGGAUGAAAGAGUGUGGAAUUGAAAUUAUUGUUUUAUUGAAAAAUGAGGAACUGGGAAAUUAUUAAAAAAAGUGAGAUUUGAAAAAUUGUUGUCAAAGUCAAAGAGGAUAAAAGGGAAGAUGUCACGUGACCAAAGGUGGCCAUGCAACUGAAUGCUCAUAUGCGCGGACCCAAGGAGGUCACUGGGGCUACUUUGUCGGCGCACCAUCCUCUCUUAUAACUGCAAAUAGGCUCGGUAUGAAAGAAACUUGAGACAGGUCUGGUGACUCAGAAUAUGGAUCAGAACCCACAGAACCUUUGAUCACGAUCACCUAGGAUGUAACACGUCCCUCUCUCAAAGCAAAUCUUUGUCCAGCUUCAAGAGGAACAGCAGAUAUCAACUCGAAAAACUACUGUAACAUCAUUCCCGGGCAUAACCAUCUUAACUUCUUCAAGCAAUUGAACCUUCCUAGUGGCAUCUGCAGUCCUCAGGUGGCUUUGAUUUAUCAGAAGAAUUGAAAGCCGAAGAUUUAGGCAUUGGAGGGGUCACAUGCAUUAGUUGCCUAGAUUGCUUAAAUGCCAAUUCCUCAAGCCGAUGUGUGUUAACAGGCAGCUGUGGUGUAGUGCAAGCCCAUGAUGGAGCCCGUGCCAAUGCUUCAGCCAUAUUAAGACCAACUGUAAUACUUGGAAGCCCAGGUGCUGUGGCAGAACGAUAUUUUGUUGAGCAGAUGAGGAUCCAAUGAGCAAAUUCUGAACAGCCAUGUUCAACCCAGGUGACGAAACCCUCCCAAGAUCCAAUUCGGUUCCAAGUGAAGAGAAAUCCUUAUCAAACACAGUCUUGUGGAUGGUUUCUCACAAAGCAAUCUCAUGGUUUACACUUUCUGCUUAUUUAUGAAGUUUGCUAAUCCUUUCCUUUCUUAUCCUCGGGACGACCUUCUUCCGAUCGAGCCUUCCUAUCCUCGGUGUGGCAUUUAUACGACAUAACCCAACUCACCUAUCAACCCAUAUCUGAAUUUGGCUGCGUCUUAGCAAGAUGCUUCACGGCGUCUUUCUCCAGCUGCAGCCACAACGUGUCAGCUGCCUCCACCCAAAACCUGAUAUGCUGAGAAGUUUCCGUCUAUUAUUGGAUUCGGUAUCUGAUUCCUCAGUCGCUUUCAUUCUCUCAAUCCCUUCCAUGCAUGCAUGAGGGUUGGUGUUAUGUGGUGUAAGGAGAGAAACGGGUAUGGGAUGUGAUCAAAUGGGUGUAUGUGUGAGGGUAUGAAAUAUAGGUGUGGAGACGGGUAUUAUAGGCAAAAGAAGUGGCCAUGCACAUGAGAUGAGUGUGAAGCACGGCCACGGGUAGUGAGAGAAAAUGGGUGGUUAUGUGUUAAGUAUGAGUGGUGAUGAAAUGUGUAUGAAGGUUUAAACAAUGGGUUUGGAGGAUGGAGAUAGGAGUGAGUGGAGUGGGUGGUUGGACGAGUAGUAAGGCUUAGAGAGAUGGUAGUGGGUUUGGAAUAGGUGCAGGGGAAGAUAAUGAAUGAAGAUGAAUGAAGAGAGCGUGAGAUAGAAGAUGGAUGUGAUGGACAAGAAGGUGGCCACGUGCCUGGAGCUUCAUGUAUAUGGGUAUGAAAGAGUUUGAAGAGAGAGAAAAGGUGGUAAUAUGGAAUGGGUUUGGUGGGUGCAAGCAUGAGGCAUGAAGAUGAGGGUUAGUAUGGAAGUGUGGGUAUGAUGAGCGAAAGAGAGAGAUGAGAUGAGUGCAUGGUGGUGUAGAAAGAAAGGUGAUCAUACAAAUGGGCAUAGGUAUGGAGGUAUAAUGGGUAUAGGGUCAUGGGUAUGCUAAAUGGGCAAAAAGGGUAUAAGCCCGAAAUUAAUGGAGUAGGUAGUGGGAGAUAAUAGGAAAUGGGUGUUCAUGGGGAUCCUCUGCGUACAUGGUGGGAAAGGAAACAGUGAAGAGUACCCACAGCCAACUGAACUUUCAUUAUUCCUCUCAUUUUAACAUAAGCUUGACCACAAUAUUUCUGAACUCUCUCUUAGGACUCAUACUUCCGAUGGCUAUUUUGUGGUCUACAAUGCCAAUGGUGAUAUUUUCCGUCUUUCAAAGCCGAAAAGAGGUAAGUGACCCUCAUCAAUCGAACAACUCACUUUCUUAUAUAUUCAGGCAACAACUAGAGCAACUCCAGAUCUAUGAAUAGUAUGGGCCCAAGAAUCUGCUUAACAGAAUGCUCCAAAUCUUCAACAAGUGUAAAUCAGUUGGAUACGAUUGCACAUUGUGUUGUAGCGUGAACAACAGAGAUGGCAAAAGGACUUCAUUGUCAUGACCGAAAAAGCGUCAACUUCUUUCUCAUUGACUGGCAUAAUAUCCUCAGUAACAAACUGAUCCAGAUCAAAUAUAAAUGCAGUAUUCCCACAAGAUACAACCGGAACAGGACCUUGCUUCUUUUCCAUCUAAGAUCUUUGCGCAACCCAGAUCAUCUGGAGGAGUUUUGUUCAUCCUCAACACUCACGAGCUAUGAUCUGUGCUAUCACCACCUGGCUCUCUCAAAUAGGGAUGUACAACCUGAUGUAUAACAAGGUAGGAUGCCGAAAACAGGGGAAUGGCAAAACCAAAUAGAAAACAAACCAGUGAAACAAAUAAAACAACCAAAGCCAUGUUUCAUGUUUAGAUCAACAGGUUUGGCUGUAGGUGAGUGAACUAGAAUGCACCUAAAGAGAUAAGAACAAGACAAAACUCCUAUAUGUGGCAUAGCGAAAACUAAAACAGAGCUGAGCCAUUCUCAAAUCAUCAUAAGGAAAAUAGGCAAGAUAGCCGCCAAGGAAAUCCGAGAACCAAGCAGGAACCAUAAGAUAGAACGUAUACCCAAACAAAUCACAGACAAUAUCAAGCAAAAGGAAUGAAACUACAUACUGAUAAAGAAUAUGAAGGAUCCAUGGCAGUCAUACCUCGCUUUUCUUCCCCCUCAAGCUCUCUGUUCUCUCUGGAUAUCUUAGCCAAAACUCCUCCUAGUUUUCCCUCUGAGCUCUCCUCAAGCUCCCAGAAAAACUCUCCCUCAGGCUCCUCCGGAAUCUCUCCUUUUUCUCUCCUCCUCUCUCAAUAUCCAGCUUGCUCCUUGCAAAAUCAGCACCCUCUCUCCAAAAACAUGCUCUGUUUUUCUUAGCUUCUCCCUGGUCCCUGCAUCCCCUAAAAAUCUCCUUUUCUCCUUUUUCUUUUCUCUCGGAUUUGCCCUUCUAACCAUAUCUGCAGAGACAGCCCCCUUCAUGCAGCUGGCAACCUUCCCAUAACAGAAAAAUACGCUCCCCUGAUUCCAGAAGAUUCUUUCCCUUUACAGGUGUCUUCCCCGGAUUAGUCCAUCAAUUCCACUAUUUUGAUCCCAUAUUGACUAAUUCGGGAGUGACACGUGGCCAGAAUGAGCUGCAUGAAAUAGCACCCAAAUAGGGGUCUACAAAUAUGUCCCUCUUUGGUAGAGUUCACGAGUGUAAAGAAUAUGAACACUGGAGUGAAAAGCAAGUGUGAAUAGUGAGUGCAAUGAAGUGAACUCUACUGAAGAACAAAGGAGACCCCCAAAAGGACACCAGUGGAACCCAAACUCACUCAGGCCAACAGAAUGAACAAUGAGGCUCUAAUCCUAAGAGAGAAAAAUGUCACAAAAUGCCUCUGAAGCCACACUAAGGAUCCAAGCUCCCUCUAAGACAUCUCCAAAAGUGACUCGAAGAUCAAUGUCAAAGAUGAGUAACGGUCGAACCACCCUGGAGUACAAUAAAGAAUGUGCCCGAAGGAGACUGCCCUAUGUGAACUAUACGAGAAUGCCAAGUGUAGGGUGCCCAACAACAUGAUCGAAAUAUGCGUCACGGAUCUCAAAAGACUGUGUCAUGUGUAGUGGAAAGGGAAGUCUAAAAGAGCAAUGAUGAAUAGGCGAUAAGCAUCAAGUAACCAGGUGAGGAGAAUGGCUCUGAACGCCUAAAAUGGAAAUGUGAUCCUGAAUGUCAUACUGAAGCAAAGACCUGGACGCCAAACUGACUUGAUAGGAAGAAUGAAUGACCGAUCUAUAUGGGUGCGGUCCCGACUCAAACUAAACACAAUCUGAUAGGGAAAUGACCGAUCGAUAUGGGUGCGGCCCCGACUCAAACUGAACUGAUAAGAAGAUGGCCGAUUUAUAUAGGUGCGGCCCUAGAAACUAAACUGACAUGACAAGGAGAUGGUCGAUCGAUAUAGGUGCGGCCCCGACUCAAACUGACACGAUAAUGACCGAUCGUAUAGGUGCGGUCCCAGAAACUGAACUGACAUGACAAGCAGAUGACCGAUCGAUAUAGGUGCAGUCCCAGAAACUGAACUGACAUGACAAAGAGAUGACCGAUCGAUAUAGGUGCGGUCCCGACUCAAACUGACACGAUAAUGACCGAUCGUAUAGGUGCGGUCCUGGAAACUGAACUAACAUGACAAAGAGAUGGUCGAUCGUAUAGGUGCGGCCUCGACUCAAACUGACACGAUAAUGACCGAUCGUAUAGGUGCGGUCCCAGAAACUGAACUGCCAUGACAAAGAGAUGGUCGAUCGUAUAGGUGCGGCCUCGACUCAAACUGACACGAUGAUGACCGAUCGUAUAGGUGCGGUCCCAAAAACUGAAUUGACAUGACAAAGAGAUGGUCGAUCGUAUAGGUGUGGCCUCGACUCAAACUGGCACGAUAAUGACCGAUCGUAUAGGUGCGGUCCCAGAAACUGAACUAACAUGACAAAGAGAUGGUCGAUCGUAUAGGUGCGGCCCCGACUCAAACUGACACGAUGAUGACCGAUCGUAUAGGUGCGGCCUCGACUCAAACUGACACGAUGAUGACCGAUCGUAUAGGUGCGGUCCUAGAAACUGAACUAUCAUGACAAAGAGAUGGUCGAUCAUAUAGGUGCGGCCCCGACUCAAACUGACACGAUGAUGACCGAUCGUAUAGGUGCGGUCCCAGAAACUGAACUGACAUGACAAAGAGAUGGCUGAUCGUAUAGGUGCGGCCUCGACUCAAACUGGCACGAUAAUGACCGAUCGUAUAGGUGUGGUCCCAGAAACUGAACUGACAUGACAAAGAGAUGGCCGAUCGUAUAGGUGCGGCCCCGACUCAAACUGACACGAUGAUGACCGAUCGUAUAGGUGCGGUCCCAGAAACUGAACUGUCAUGACAAAGAGAUGGUCGAUCGUAUAGGUGCGGCCCCGACUCAAACUGACACGAUGAUGACCGAUCGUAUAGGUGCGGUCCCAGAAACUGAACUGACAUGACAAAGAGAUGGCCGAUCGUAUAGGUGCUGCCCCGACUCAAACUGACACGAUGAUGACCGAUCGUAUAGGUGCGGUCUCAGAAACUGAACUGACAUGACAAAGAUAUGGUCGAUCGUAUAGGUGCGGCCUCGACUCAAACUGACACGAUGAUGACCGAUCGUAUAGGUGCGGUCCCAGAAACUGAACUGUCAUGACAAAGAGAUGGUCGAUCAUAUAGGUACGGUCCCAGAAACUGAACUGACAUGACAGGAAGAUGGCCGAUCGUAUAGGUGCGGUCCCGACUCAAACUGACAUGAUAAUGACCGAUCGAUAUAGGUGCGGUCCCGACUCAAAGUGAACUGAUAAGAAGAUGGCCGAUCGAUAUAGGUGCGGCCCCGACUCAAACUGACACGAUAAUGACCGAUCGUAUAGGUGCGGUCCCAGAAACUGAACUGUCAUGACAAAGAGAUGGCCGAUCGUAUAGGUGCGGCCUCGACUCAAACUGACACGAUAAUGACCGAUCGUAUAGGUGCGGUCCCAGAAACUGAACUGUCAUGACAAAGAGAUGGUCGAUCGUAUAGGUGCGGUCCCAGAAACUGAACUGACAUGACAGGAAGAUGGCCGAUCGUAUAGGUGCGGUCCCGACCCAAACUGACACGAUAAUGACCGAUCGAUAUAGGUGCGGUCCCGACUCGAACUGAACUGAUAAGAAGAUGGCCGAUCGAUAUAGGUGCGGCCCUGACUCAAACUGACACGAUAAUGACCGAUCGUAUAGGUGCGGUCCCAGAAACUGAAUUGACAUGACAAAGAAAUGACUGAUCGUAUAGGUGUGGUCCCGACUCAAACUGACACGAUAAUGACCGAUCGAUAUAGGUGUGGUCCCGACUCGAACUGAACUGAUAAGAAGAUGGCCGAUCGAUAUAGGUGCGGCCCCGACUCAAACUGACACGAUAAGAUGAUGAAUGACCUGAUCAAGUGACCCAAAACCACCACAAUUCUCCAUGCAAUGACGUGUGAAAAACCACCACUCAAGGUGAAACAAGGAUAAUGUCGAGUAAUCAAUGAGGAAAGGAAAAGACAGAGAACGAAUAUCACAAGUGGUGGUAUGUGAUAUCGAAAAAUAGUGAUGAAAUGAUGUCCAAGCGGAAAAUAUCACAGUGAAGAGUGAAGAAUGAGGCUCGAAUAUGUAUGUCAGGUCUAGAACUCAUGACGUAUCCAAACAUAGCAUGCAAGCACUACAGGGUCCCCAACCCGGUGUAAUAAGUAAAUGAGGUGAUGAAAGAAAAAGCUAUGUGCUCGUGUGAGGCUCAAAGGGCUAGCAACGGGUAACUCUAUAUGUGAGGGUGAUAAAGUAAAUAGGCUCAUGAAAUGAUGGCCACCCAUCCUUUGACCAAAACCUCGAACAUCGUGCUUUUGAGAUCUCACAUGGUCAAUACUAAAGACUGGCAUCCAUCCAACAUAGUCAUGACGACUCCUCUGAAAUCGUGCAAAAGGCUCCCACUGAUGCUCUGUGAUGAUCAUCAAUGUCGUCUGAAAAUCAACUCACUCUAUCAUCACAAGCCACUCACCAUCAUCUCAUAAAAUCACCAUGUCUAAUCAUCCCGACUCUCUGAAGUCAUGUGCAAUGGCUCAAAUCUGGAUGCUCCAUGAUAACCUCUCUAUCUCAACAAUAUCGUCAAACAAAUCAAGCCACUCUCUCAUCGUGAUCCAUCUAUCAUCAUGUAAAGCUCACCUCGGGUCUAACCAUCUCGGACUCUACCUGGUCAGAUCCAUGAAAUGAUGGAAAGGAUAGGCAAUGGUACUGUAGCAUGAUAAGGCGAAUCAAGGGUAGUAAAGGUCGUACGAUGGUACCAAGGGAUGGUGUCAUGUCAAGCUCAAAAUGGGUAGGUCAUCAAGUCCACAAAGUCAAGGUACGAAUAUGGAUAUGGUAUCGCUCUAAUCAAAAGGUGAUAUGAGGCACAGUCUCGAACUCCCUAGGUCGAUCUCCUGAUCCUAGGUCAAUAGACUCAAUAUCCUCCAUGAUAGGUCAGGCCAAAGUGAUCGUGAUGUAAGUGAAAGAUGUAUCAUAUUGAAAGUACAACACAUCAUAUGAAAUAUGGUCCCGUGAUGGCAAUCCUAAACUGGAAAUAUGACAGAAACUCUAAGGUCAUAAAGGUGUCCACUAUGAGAUGGCUACAAAUGUGACCAGAGAAUCUCCAUCAAUAAUCCGAGAUAAAGAGAGGUGUGAAAAACACGCUAUCACGAGAUCGGUACUCCAUCUAUAAACAUAUAUCCUUGAAUCAACCUUCAACUCGAGCUCCAUAAGAGAAAAAUAAUAAGGUGAUCAAGGCGAAUCUCUCGAAGACAGUGUGGAUGUGAAAAAUGCGCCUUUCACCUUUCUGUAAUGAAAAUAUGAGCAUCGAGUCGAAAAUUGAACCAAGGAUCAAACAAAUGAUGAGGUACUGAGCCCGUGAUAAGCAUACAGUGUAAAAAGAUGAUCAAUGAACAUAUCCCAAAGCAUCAUGUGAGUGAUAACAAAGUGAAGGGGUGUGUCGAGCCAAGAAAUGAGAAUGAAAACCCUAGGGAGAAAACAUGCUAAACUCGUCAAGUAAAAAGCAUAAUCUAGAGCGACGAGACAAAGGUGAUCCAAUCGAUACUCAAACUCAUACCGAUCUCCGAGCACUCUCAACUGGAGACUAAAAAGAGGGAACACUGGAUCCGAACUGUAACUAAAGAGGCUCUGAAGGCCCUCAGAUGCACCCACGUGUAGGGAGGGAGUCCUAAUCGAAGGAUCUACGGCUCAACCUACGAGAUCAAGGUGGCUCUAAAUGGAUAUGGGUGGACUUUAAAAAAAAUCCCUAGCAGAAGCGAUCAUACCCUCCAGCGGUACACAACCCUCUGCACGCCUAAAAAAAAGACGGGGCGCUUCCAUGCAAGGUGGACAUCGCAUCCACACAUGCACUACCUCGACAUCCUAGGGGGUUUCCUAUGGUGAAUCCUCUCAAACUCUCAACGCUCAAUAGUCAACUAGGGUGCAUAGUGAUCGGUGUGGGUGCAUCCGAAACCCUAAGAAGCUAAAGCAGAAGAUGAAACAUACUGGUCGCAUAAAUAUCCAUGAAACCUAGCUCGGGGCUAUACAGGUCUUCAAUGAUCGGACUCUAAUCGACAACAAUGCGCCGCUCGCCUCCAGAAUGCUCCCAAACAUCAGUAUAGCCCGUCGCUAGACCCUACUCUUAACUUCUAUCUCAGUCAGAGUACAAGCACACACAAGGCCUCACACUUGCAAAAGUGAGAACCGUAAUGAAGAAAGUGACUGAGACUAGAGAGUGAGAGAUAAGGGGAUAGAUGUGCGACCCACAUAAACAAGCGGCACGAAAUCACACAGAUGAGGGCAAUCAUGCAACACACAGUCAAACAAAACUCAGAUAUAUCAUCAAUGUACACACAAGAUAAGCGAGAAUACGACAAUCAGAUGGAUAGUGAUACAAAGACAACACGCUCAAAGAUGAUCAAAAUAAUAUACCAACAAGUGGAUCAGCAUGUCGAGUCGAAUGAUGUACAGUAGUGAGUGUAUGCACGUGAAGUGAUCAAAACAAUCAUGACAAAAUCAGGGUCAAUGUGCUAAGCAAAGCAAUAAGAUCAAUCAUCAAUGAUCCAGCAUGUCAAUGUCUCAAACAAAUAUAUCAAUGCAACACAGAAGAAAUCAUGGCAUCAGAAUCCUCAAUCAAUAUAAAUCAAUCAACACGAUCGACGUGUCAAAGUCUCAAGUGGAUAUAAAAUCCGAGCAUGCAUCAAAUAUCCUCAAUGUGCAAUCAAGAAAUGGGCAUCCACUGAUUGUCCAAUCGAAUGCCACGUUUGCUUCAUUCUAAGUUCAAGUUUGACCCUCUAAAUGAUCCCCAGUGGAGUCGCCAUUUUGUGGACCCCGCAUUUCGUGCUUGAUGCGUUUCCCACUCGAUGGCGAGCUCGAUUUUUAUUUUGAAAAAUUAAUUUUAUUUAUUGUUUGUUGAAAAAAAUGACUUGGAGUCGCCACUUAUUUUUGUUUUAUUUUUAAAGGGUAAACAAAAUAAGAAAGAAAAACCCUAAGUGUGACUCCUUAUUUUGGAAAAGGCGGUCUGUGAAAAACUGGAUCGGGUUCGGGGGUCAGGUUACUUAUUGGGAAGGUACGGUAAAGACCGUAGCACCCCUCUAAGUCCCUAAAAUCGGGUCUCUACUAAUAGAAUGAAGUUGACGUGGCAAUCAAUGAGGAAAUCAGCGGAUACUCAAAUCAAACUUGCACAUAUGAAAAUAAGAGUAUGCAUAGAGAAUAAUCAAAAUGAGAAUGAGUGCGUACCUGGACCUCUAGUGACAAAUGCGCUAUCAUGAAACAGGAUUAGUGAGCAAUGAACAAGAUAUAAUUAAGCGCAUAUCAAGAAAUAGAGUAAACCAAUCAUGCAUGGCAAAUAAAUCAAUCGAUCUGUCAAUCAAUCAUGAAGUCAAGUAUGUGGGGCCCCCACCAAAGCCCGUUUAUUUUGCAUGAAUUAAUUCCAUAAAUUCCAUUAGUCGGAAUUACGGAAUUUAAUUCUUGCUUAUUUUUACAACAUUUUAAAAGAUUAUGAAAGAUUUGAAAAUUGCUUACCGAAUAGAAAGUGGAAGCAAAUUUGAUUAAAAGUGAGACUCUUGGGUGAUCCUAAAAAUUCUAAGGAUGAAAGAGUGUGGAAUUGAAAUUAUUGUUUUAUUGAAAAAUGAGGAACUGGGAAAUUAUUAAAAAAAAUGAGAUUUGAAAAAUUGUUGUCAAAGUCAAAGAGGAUAAAAGGGAAGAUGUCACGUGACCAAAGGUGGCCAUGCAACUGAAUGCUCAUAUGCGCGGACCCAAGGAGGUCACUGGGGCUGCUUUGUCGGCGCACCAUCCUCUCUUAUAACUGCAAAUAGGCUCGGUAUGAAAGAAACUUGAGACAGGUCUGGUGACUCAAAAUAUGGAUCAGAACCCACAGAACCUUUGAUCACGAUCACCUAGGAUGUAACACGUCCCUCUCUCAAAGCAAAUCUUUGUCCAGCUUCAAGAGGAACAACAGAUAUCAACUCGAAAAACUACUGUAACAUCAUUCCCAGGCAUAACCAUCUUAACUUCUUCAAGCAAUUGAACCUUCCCAGUGGCAUCUGUAGUCCUCAGGUGGCUUUGAUUUAUCAGAAGAAUUGAAAGCCGAAGAUUUAGGCAUUGGAGGGGUCACAUGCAUUAGUUGCCUAGAUUGCUUAAAUGCCAAUUCCUCAAGCCGAUGUGUGUUAACAGGCAGCUGUGGUGUAGUGCAAGCCCAUGAUGGAGCCCGUGCCAAUGCUUCAGCCAUAUUAAGACCAACUGUAAUACUUGGAAGCCCAGGUGCCGGGGCAGAACGAUAUUUUGUUGAGCAGAUGAGGAUCCAAUGAGCAAAUUCUGAACAGCCAUGUUCAACCCAGGUGACGAAACCCUCCCAAGAUCCAAUUCGGUUCCAAGUGAAGAGAAAUCCUUAUCAAACACAGUCUUGUGGAUGGUUUCUCACUAAGCAAUCUCAUGGUUUACACUUUCUGCUUAUUUAUGAAGUUUGCUAAUCCUUUCCUUUCUUAUCCUCGAGACGACCUUCUUCCGAUCGAGCCUUCCUAUCCUCGGUGUGGCAUUUAUACGACAUAACCCAACUCACCUAUCAACCCAUAUCUGAAUUUGGCUGCGUCUUAGCAAGAUGCUUCACGGCGUCUUUCUCCAGCUGCAGCCACAACGUGUCAGCUGCCUCCACCCAAAACCUGAUAUGCUGAGAAGUUUCCGUCUAUUAUUGGAUUCGGUAUCUGAUUCCUCAGUCGCUUUCAUUCUCUCAAUCCCUUCCAUGCAUGCAUGAGGGUUGGUGUUAUGUGGUGUAAGGAGAGAAACGGGUAUGGGAUGUGAUCAAAUGGGUGUAUGUGUGAGGGUAUGAAAUAUAGGUGUGGAGACGGGUAUUAUAGGCAAAAGAGGUGGCCAUGCACAUGAGAUGAGUGUGAAGCACGGCCACGGGUAGUGAGAGAAAAUGGGUGGUUAUGUGUUAAGUAUGAGUGGUGAUGAAAUGUGUAUGAAGGUUAGAACAAUGGGUUUGGAGGAUGGAGAUAGGAGUGAGUGGAGUGGGUGGUUGGACGAGUAGUAAGGCUUAGAGAGAUGGUAGUGGGUUUGGAAUAGGUGCAGGGGAAGAUAAUGAAUGAAGAUGAAUGAAGAGAGCGUGAGAUAGAAGAUGGAUGUGAUGGACAAGAAGGUGGCCACGUGCCUGGAGCUUCAUGUAUAUGGGUAUGAAAGAGUUUGAAGAGAGAGAAAAGGUGGUAAUGUGGAAUGGGUUUGGUGGGUGCAAGCAUGGGGCAUGAAGAUGAGGGUUAGUAUGGAAGUGUGGGUAUAAUGAGCGAAUGAGAGAGAUGAGAUGGGUGCAUGGUGGUGUAGAAAGAAAGGUGAUCAUACAAAUGGGCAUAGGUAUGGAGGUAUAAUGGGUAUAGGGUCAUGGGUAUGCUAAAUGGGCAAAAAGGGUAUAAGCCCGGAAUUAAUGGAGUAGGUAGUGGGAGAUAAUAGGAAAUGGGUGUUCAUGGGGAUCCUCUGCGUACAUGGUGGGAAAGGAAACAGUGAAGAGUACCCACAACCAACUGAACUUUCAUUAUUCCUCUCAUUUUAACAUAAGCUUGACCAUAAUAUUUCUAAACUCUCUCUUAGGACUCAUACUUCCGAUGGCUAUUUUGUGGUCUACAAUGCCAAUGGUGAUAUUUUCCGUCUUUCAAAGCCGAAAAGAGAGGUAAGUGACCCUCAUCAAUCGAACAACUCACUUUCUUAUAUAUUCAGGCAACAACUAGAGCAACUCCAGAUCUAUGAAUAGUAUGGGCCCAAGAAUCUGCUUAACAGAAUGCUCCAAAUCUUCAACAAGUGUAAAUCAGUUGGAUACGAUUGCACAUUGUGCUGCAGCGUGAACAACAGAGAUGGCAAAAGGACUUCAUUGUCAUGACCGAAAAAGCGUCAAGUUCUUUCUCAUUGACUGGCAUAAUAUCCUCAGUAACAAACUGAUCCAGAUCAAAUAUAAAUGCAGUAUUCCCACAAGAUACAACCUGAACAGGACCUUGCUUCUUUUCCAUCUAAGAUCUUUGCGCAACCCAGAUCAUCUGGAGGAGUUUUGUUCAUCCUCAACACUCACGAGCUAUGAUCUGUGCUAUCACCACCUGGCUCUCUCAAAUAGGGAUGUACAACCUGAUGUAUAACAAGGUAGGAUGCCGAAAACAGGGGAAUGGCAAAACCAAAUAGAAAACAAACCAGUGAAACAAAUAAAACAACCAAAGCCAUGUUUCAUGUUUAGAUCAACAGGUUUGGUUGUAGGUGAGUGAACUAGAAUGCACCUAAAGAGAUAAGAACAAGACAAAACUCCUAUAUGUGGCAUAGCGAAAACUAAAACAGAGCUGAGCCAUUCUCAAAUCAUCAUAAGGAAAAUAGGCAAGAUAGCCGCCAAGGAAAUCCGAGAACCAAGCAGGAACCAUAAGAUAGAACGUAUACCCAAACAAAUCACAAACAAUAUCAAGCAAAAGGAAUGAAACUACAUACUGAUAAAGAAUAUGAAGGAUCCAUGGCAGUCAUACCUCGCUUUUCUUCCCCCUCAAGCUCUCUGUUCUCUCUGGAUAUCUUAGCCAAAACUCCUCCUAGUUUUCCCUCUGAGCUCUCCUCAAGCUCCCAGAAAAACUCUCCCUCAGGCUCCUCCGGAAUCUCUCCUUUUUCUCUCCUCCUCUCUCAAUAUCCAGCUUGCUCCUUGCAAAAUCUGCACCCUCUCUCCAAAAACAUGCUCUGUUUUUCUUAGCUUCUCCCUGGUCCCUGCAUCCCCUAAAAAUCUCCUUUUCUCCUUUUUCUUUUCUCUCGGAUUUGCCCUUCUAACCAUAUCUGCAGAGACACCCCCCUUCAUGCAGCUGACAACCUUCCCAUAACAGAAAAAUACGUUCCCCUGAUUCCAGAAGAUUCUUUCCCUUUACAGGUGUCUUCCCCGGAUUAGUCCAUCAAUUCCACUAUUUUGAUCCCAUAUUGACUAAUCCGGGAGUGACACGUGGCCAGAAUGAGCUGCAUGAAAUAGCACCCAAAUAGGGGUCUACAGCACCCUUGGCCCAUUUAGGCACUCUAAGCUCAUUUGGGCAUCCUAGGUCCACUUAAGCACCCUAGGCCCAUUUAGGCACCCUUGGUACACUUAGGCACCCUAGGCCCAUUUAGGCACCCUAAGUCCAGUUAGGCACUCUAGACCCAUUUAGGCACCUUAGGCCCACUUAGGCUUUGUUGGCCCAUUUAGGCACCCUAGGUCCACUUAGACACCUUAGGCCCACUUAAGCACCCUAGGCCCUUUUAGGCACCCUAGGUCCAUUUAGGCACCCUUGGCCCAUUUAGGUACCCUCGGCCCACUUAGGCACCCUAGGCCCAUUUAGGCUCCCUAGGUCCAUUUAGGCACCUAAGGCUCAUUUAGGCACUCAUAGGCCCAUUUAGGCACCCUAGGUCCACUUAGACACCUUACGCUCAUUUAGGCACCCGAGGCUCAUUUAGGCACCCUUGGCCCAUUUAGGCACCCUAGGCUCAUUUAGGCACCUUUGGCCCAUUUAGGCACCCUAGGCCCACUUAGACACCCUGAGCCCACUUAGACACCCUUGGCCCAUUUAGGCACCUUAGGUCCACUUAGACUCUCUAGGCCCAUUUCGGCACCCUAGGUCCACUAAGACACGCUAGGCACAUUUAAGCACCUAAGCACCCUAGGCACAUUUACGAACCUAAGGCUCAUUUAGGCACUCAUGGGCCCAUUUAGGCACCCUAGGUCCACUUAGACACGUUAGGCUCAUUUAGGCACCCGAGGCUCAUUUAGGCACCCUUGGCCCAUUUAGGCACCUAGGCUCAUUUAGGCACCUUUGGCCCAUUUAGGCACCCUAGGCCCACUUAGACACCCUGAACCCACUUAGACAUCCUUGGCCCAUUUAGGCACCCUAGGUCCAAUUAGGCUCUCUAGGCCCAUUUCGGCACCCUAUGUCCACUAAGACACGCUAGGAACAUUUAAGCACCCUAAGCCCACUUAGGCACCCUUGGCCCAUUUACGAACCCUAGGCUCAUUUAGGCACCAUAGGUCCACUUAGGUACCCUAGGCCCAUUUAGGCAUUCUAGGUCCAAUUAGGCACUUUAGACCCAUUUGGGCACCCUAGGUCCACUUAGGCACCCUAGGCCCAUUCAGGCACCCUAGGUCCACUCAGGCACCCUAGGCCGAUUUAGGCACCCUUGGUCCACUUAAGCACCCUAGGCCCAUUUUGGCACCCUAGGUCCAGUUAGCCACUCUAGACCCAUUUAGGCACCUUAGGCCCACUUAAGCAUCCUUGGCCAAUUUUGGCACCCUAGGUCCACUUAGGCACUCUAGUCCCAUUUAGGCACCCUAGGUCCACUUAGGCACCCUACGUCCAUUUAGGCACCCUAGGUCCAUUUAGGCACCCUAGGCUCAUUUAGGCACCCUAGGCCCAUUUAGGCACCCUAGGUCCACUUAGACACCUUAGGCCCAUUUAGGCACCCUAGGUCCACUUAGGCACCCUUGGCCCAUUUAGGCACCCUAGGUCCAUUUAGGCACCCUAGGCCCAUUUAGGCACCCUAGGCCCAUUUAGGCACCCUAGGUCCACUUAGGCACCCUAGGUCCACUUAGGCACCCUAGGCCCAUUUAGGCACCGUAGGUCCAUUUAGGCACCCUUAGCCCAUUUAGGCACCCUAGGCCCAAUUAGGCACCCUAGGUCCAUUUAGGCACCCUAGGUCCACUUAGACACCUUAGGCCCAUUUAGGCACCCUAAGCCCACUUAGGCACCCUUGGUCCAUUUAGGCCCCCUAAGCUCAUUUAGGCACCCUAGGUCCACUUAGGCACUCUAGGCCCAUUUAGGCACCCUUGGUCUACUUAGGCACCCUAGGCCCAUUUAGGCACCCUAGGUCCAGUUAGGCACUCUAGACCCAUUUAGGCACCUUAGGCCCACUUAGGCAUCCUUGGCCCAUUUAGGCACCCUAGGUCCACUUAGGCACUCUAGGCCCAUUUAGGCACGCUAGGUCCACUUAGGCACCCGAGGCCCAUUUAGGCACCCUAGGUCCACUUAGACACCUUAGGCCCAUUUAGGCACCCUAAGUCCACUUAGGCACCUUUGGCCCAUUUAGGCACCCUAGGCUCAUUUAGGCACCCUAGGUCCAGUUAGGCACCUCAGGCCCAUUUCAGCACCAUAGGUCCAGUUAGGCACUCUAUACCCAUUUAGGAACUCUAGGUCCACUUAGGCACCCUAGGCUCAUUGAGGCACCCUAGGUCCAUUUAGGCACCCUUGGCCCAUUUAGGCACCCUAGGCCCACUUAGGCACCCUAGGCCCAUUUAGGCACCCUAGGCUCAUUUAGGCACCCUAGGCCCAUUUAGGCACCCUAGGUCCACUUAGACACCAUAGGCCCAUUUAGGCACCCUAGGCUCAUUUAUGCACCCUUGGCCCAUUGAGGCACCCUAGGCCCACUUAGACACCCUAAGCCCACUUAGACACCCUUGGUCCAUUUAGGCACCCUAGGUCCACUUAGGCACCUUAGGCCCACAUAGGCACCCUUGGCCCAUUUAGGUACCCUUGGCCCAUUUAGUUAGGCCCACCUAGUCUCACCUUAGGCCCAUUUAGGCACACUUGGGCCAUUAAGAAAUUUUUAGCGUGACUUAUAUGACUUGCAUGGUUGCAUGGCUUGUGGGGCUCAGUUUUUUUUUUAUUUAUUUAUUUUUAUUUUUAGUUUUAUUUUUAUUUUUAUCAAUCACUUGUUUAUUUUUAUUUGUUAUAUUCCUUUCUAUAUUAUUUUUCUUAGUUUUUUAAUUAACUUAUUUAUUUAUUAUUGUUUUACCGUUUUCUAAUUUAUCUACUCAUUUAUUUAUUCAUUCAAUUAUUUAAUAUAAAAAAAUUUCAUGCUUUUGCAAGGAAACUUACCAUUGAAGUUUAAGGAAAGUGGGACUCUCCUUGGAAGGUUUUGGAGAGGGAGUUUGAAAUUGGGAGGAUUGUUUUUGAAUGGGAAGAUUGGAAAAAGAGGGAAAAAAAAUGGGGAAUUUCUCAGAGCCAUAUAAGGAGUAGACUGCCAUCAUGAGAUAAAGAAAAAGAAAAAAAAAAAAGUUAGAGAUUUUGAUUUUCUGGGGGAUAGAGAGAACAAUAGGAAUUUUUUAGAAGGGUUUUUUUGUUAGAGAUUCAAGCAUAAAGCAUAAUUUUUUUUAAAGAGAGCACACAGAAUUUUGGAAAAAAAGCAAGGGACUUGAGACGGAGAUCGGGCUGCCAUUUAAUCAUCAAGAGAGGAUUUUCUAUUUCACUUCAAAGGUUAGUUUUCUAUAUAGUACUUUUAUUUAGCCUAGACUUUUUUUUGGAAAUUUUAGUUUUUGAUUAAUUCUUUGUGUUAAAGUUUAUAUUAUUUUCUUUUUAAAUCCCCAAUUAGUUUAAUUCCAAUCUAUCUUUUAGUUUAAGUUUGUUAAUGAUUUUAAUUCUUAAGUUUAAAUAAUCAUAUUGAAUAAAGUUUGUAUUUUUAAUCCUGAUUAGUUUGAUUUCAAUUCGUUUUUAGUUUAAAUGUAUUUUGUUGAUCUUAAUUCUUGACUUUAAAUAAUCACGUUAAAUAAAGUUUGUAUUUUUAAUCCCAAUUAGUUUGAUUUCAAUUCGUUUUUUAUUUUAAAUGUGUCUUGUUGAUCUUAAUUCUUUACUUUAAAUAAUCACGUUAAUAAAGUUUGUAUUUUUAAUCCCAAUUAGUUUGAUUUCAAUUCGUUUUUAAUUUAAAUGCAUUAGUUGAUCUUAAUUCUUUACUUUAAAUAAUCACGUUAAAUAAAGUUUGUGUUUUUAAUCUCAAUUAGUUUGAUUUCAAUUCGUUUUUAAUUUAAAUGCAUUAGUUGAUCUUAAUUCUAUGUUUUAAAUAAUCAUGUUAAAUAAAGUUUGUAAUUUUAAUCCCAAUUAGUUUGAUUUCAAUUCGUUUUUUAGUUUAAAUGUAUCUUGUUGAUCUUAAUUCUUUACUUUAAAUAUCACGUUAAUAAAGUUUGUAUUUUUAAUCCCAAUUAGUUUGAUUUCAAUUCGUUUUUUAGUUUAAAUGUAUCUUGUUGAUCUUAAUUCUUUACUUUAAAUAAUCACGUUAAUAAAGUUUGUAUUUUUAAUCCCAAUUAGUUUGAUUUCAAUUUGUUUUUAAUUUAAAUGCAUUAGUUGAUCUUAAUUCCUUGUUUUAAAUAAUCACGUUAAAUAAAUUUGUAUUUUUAAUCCCAUUUAGUUUGAUUUCAAUUCGUUUUUUAGUUUAAAUGCAUUAGUUGAUCUUAAUUCUUAAGUUUAAAUAAGCACGUUAAUAAAGUUUGUGUUUUUAAUCCCAAUUAGUUUGAUUUUAAUUUGUUUUUAGUUUAAAUGCAUUUUGUUGAUCUUAAUUCUUUAGUUUAAAUAAUCAUAUUGAAUAAAGUUUGUGUUUUUAAUUCCAAUUAGUUUGAUAUUAAUUUGUUUUUAGCCUAAAUACAUUCAUUGAUCUUAGUUCUUUAGUUUAAAUAAUCAUAUUGAAUAAAGUUUGCGUUUUUAAUUCCAAUAAUAGAAUUUAAUUUCAAUUUAGUUUGAUUUUAAUUUAUUUUAUAAUUUGAAUGCGUUCAUGAUUUUAAUUGUUUGAUUAACUCUCUUAGACAAAUUCUAUAUAUUUAAUUUCGAUUUUAUUUUAAUUUUACUUUGUUAAUUUAUUUAUUUGUUUAAAAAUAUUUGCAAUUUCAUUUUGAUAGUUUAGCCAAUCUUAUUAGAUGAUGUUAAUGUUUUUAAUUUAAUCUAGUAUCAAUUAUUUUUAGUAUUGAAUGUGUUCGUGCGUUUCUGAAUUCGCCAUUUUGGAUUGUAAUCCAUUUAUAUCCAAUUUUGUAGUUGAUCAUAAUUUUAGUUAAUUAAUUUAGUCAAUCACAUGAUAUUAUACUCACAUUCUAAGUAUGGAAAUUUCAGCUUUGAUUCGUCAAUAUUUAGUAUGAGUUUUUUGGAAUUUUAGUUAAUUACAUGUUACUCUUUUAGUCAAUAUUUUCAAGUUUGCUAAACUUUGGUUUUUGAUUUAUCAUACUUUGCUAGAAUGUUAAUUUACCUUAAUUGAUUCCCUGUUAUUAUCUUUAUAUGCUAAGCUUGUUGACUUUAAUCUUUGGUUGGUUAUUUUUAUUUUAAUUCAUGUGUUUCUUGAAAUCUAGAUGUUAGUCUUGGAUAAUAUUUGUGUUAGUUUGUUUGAUUAGGAAACCAUUAGUUUGUUGCUUUAGUAAUUGUUGGUAAAAUCUUUUUUUUUGAAGGCCAUUGGAAAAUCAUGAAGAUUGGCAUCUACCAUCACCUUUAUCAUUUUUGUUAAUUACUAAAAAAAUUUUACUUUGAGGUUUCAUUUUUUUUUUUUUUUUUGUUUGGUAUUUUAUAUAUUUUAUUUUUUCCAAAUUAAUUCCUUUUAUUUUAAAAUAAAAUACUUUUCUCAAAAAAUCAUUUUAAAAAUCUAUUUCAAAAACUCAUUUAGAGUCCUCAGGAUCAAUUUUUUUUUUUUUAUAUUUAAAAAUAAUGUGCAACCAUAUCUUGUUCUGUUUGCAUCCUUCUCGGUUUUCAACAAAAAGUUUGGUUUUGAACAAAAACACGAAUCAAAGCUUGUGGUCCCAAAUAAAUGGGAUAAUUCUUGGCUAAAUUUGUGUAUAUUAAUUUGGGGAAUUGGUGAAACCCCUACAUAAGAAAAUCUUUUCAAAAAUUAUUUUUGUUGCCAUAUUUGUCACUUGUUGAAAUUAUGUCUAUCUUUUUUAGGAAUUGUAUACAAGAUGUGUGUGAUAAUUAAUGUUUUCAUAUACUUUGAUAAUUUUUGUUAUGCUAAUUAGAUAACAAGCAUGCUAGGGUUUCUUUAUUUUAUUAUUAUCUAAUCCCUCAUGUCUUAUGGAAGUGCAUUGUAAGUUAUCUAUGCUAUCCAGGUACAUCCCCUAUCACCUACUUUCUAAGUUUUGUAAACAUGAUUGUCACUGAGAACUAUGCUUAUGCUUGAGAAUACUUGGGUGUUCCGAUAUACAUGUUUCAUUGUUUGAUUAUUUCUAAUAAAACACAUGUUGGAUGAUAUAUUGUUUAAAUUAACCAUUGAUGUUUUAUGAUAGCGCUUGAGAAGCAGUCCGGGUACACACCCUAACUCUCCUUUAUUGUGAUUUAAUCUUGUUUAGCAUGUAAGUUUUUUGAAAUCACCUAGCCUACUUAGGUAUCUAUAAUUAAUUGAUUAAUUGCCACACUUCCCUUAACUUUGUCAGUAGAGACCUUUGUAGGGCUUAGAGGGGUGCUACCUUUUAAAGGUGCCUUCCCAAUAAGUAACCUGAUCCCCGGACUUAGACUUAGGUUUUUCAAAGACACACUUUUCCAAAAAUUAUGGAGUCAUUUUUUAGGGUUUUAUUUCUUGUUUUAUUUUCCCUUUUAAAAAAAAAUAAUAAGUGGCGACUCCAACUUUUUUUCAAAAAUCAAUUUUUCACAAAUAAAAAGCGAGUCUCGCCGAUUGAGUGGGGGCGCACGUGAAAAAUGCGGGUCCACAUGGAGUAAUUAGAGAUUAUUGCAUCACAUACGUCAAUGAAGUUGUAGGUAUUAGAGGGUAAGUUUUUAGGAUAAAACGACCAGGUAAAUUUGUGUAACUUGAUCUUGUAUAGUGGAUUUUGAUUAGUAGUCUUAGACCUUGUGGUUUUUUUUAUCUCCACAGUAGUGUGGGGAUUUUCCAUGUAAAAGUCAUUGUGUCCAUUGUUAUAUCUUGUGAUUAUCAUGAUUGUGGGGAUUUUGUUUAUCUCUGAUAUUAUCUCACAGGGUAAAAAUUGAGUAUAACAUAUAAUCUUUUUUUUAGAAUUCUUUUAAUUACACCCAUUCACCUCCGUCCUCUCUUUGGGUGUUACCCUACUAGACUUGGCUUUUUCAGUCUCAAAUUCUACAUUAGCAUUUUUUUACUUAAGUUAUAAAUGGAAAAAGUUAUAAACCCAAGAUAACUUGUUAAAAAAGUGAGAAAUAAUAAAGGACUCAUGUUAGAGUAUAAAUAAUUAAUCUAUUCUAGGCUUAAUAUAGCUCCAAUGUCAAACAUGAAUACUUAAUUAUUUAUUAUAUUUUGAAAAUAAAGUAAGUAUUUUUUAUAUAAAAAAUGAAACAACUUUUCUAGAACAACACAAGGCACUAAUGCAUAUAGUUGGUAACAAGUUGGAGAAAGAAAAUAAUGUGGAGAAAUAAAACAACAUGUACAAAGAAACAAAUUGGAGAUAAAGAAAAUGACUAACAAAAAAGAAAAUAGAGAAAUUAUAGAAUAUAAGAUAAUUAAACUUAUUUUCAUAAAAAUAAUAUAUUUUCGAAAAAUAGAAAAUUUCGUUCAUAUUCUCUUUUUCACUUAUUUUAAAAAUAAAAGUAAAAAUUAAUAUUUAUCAAAUGCAAAUAUUAAUAAUUAUGAAAUUAAUAUUUAUCACAUAUAUAAGAUUAAGAUUGAGAUAUAAACUUUUUAUAAUCUAAACUAUUAUUUUCAUUUUAAACAAGAAAGUUCGAUGUGACAUAAUAAAAUUUGUACACAAAAUUUAAAUUAUCUCUAUUCAUAUAGAAUUAUAUAUAGGUAUAGAUUCAUUUCAAAAUUCAAAUAAUUAUUUGAAAUUUACAUUUAAAUUUUAUUUUUAAAUUUAAAACUUAAUUAUUUUGUAAUAGGGUAUGUGUCAUAAAAUUGAAACUUAUAUAUAUAAAUGCGUCCACUUCCAUACCUCUCAUAAAAUUGGAGCCGACUUUUUUUGUUUUCUUUUGUGUGUUUAUAAAUGUCUCCAAUUCCAUAUCUAGCUGUGAUAUAGUUUUGGAGAUGAUUGUGAUUGAAGUAUAAUUUCUUUUAAUUUUAAUUUUAUAAGAAUUAAAAUCAAAGAAACUGUUGGGUAGAAAGAUGUUUCCCUCCAUACAAAUCUAUUUAAAAGAAAAAAAAAACACAAAGAAAGACAACAAUAGAUGAAAAUAAUUAUUCAUCUGUUAUGUUAGUGCAAAAUAUGAAAGAGAAGACAACAGUGUGCAUCUUCACUGUGACUGAGGAUCAAAUUCUCUUUGAGAUUGAUAUAAAUUAUUUAUAACUUCAUUGUUCAUGGAGAGUUGAUUCAGUAGUGUCUUCCAUUUGAAGACAUACAGAAAUGGUUAGAAUUAUCUAUUCAUUUCAAGAGAUAACUUGCAUCUAUGACCCUUAUACUCCCAUGAACUUUGAGCAUCUAUUAUUUAUAAAAUAUGGAUGAAAAUAGAAUAUAAAAAAAAUAUUUUCAUGGGAAGUGUAUUUUGGAAAAAAUAAUUCUCAUUUGAUACAUUGGAAAAGUGUCUACCUCACAUUACCCAAAAAUGUCGUUAUAUGUGUACAUGGGUCAUCAUCCAUAGUAACCCAAUUCACAUGAGGAUGGUACAUCAUUCAACCAAUAAAGGUACUUUAAGCUCAAAACAGUGGUACAUUAUAAUCAAAACAAUAUUACUUUAAUAUCAAAAUACAUGUAAGGACAUUUUAAGGUAAUGUGAGGUAAAUACUACUAUAAUACAUUAAAUAAGAAUUAUUUUCCCAAAAAUGUACUUCCCAUGAAAAUGAUUUAUGUAGGUUUUCUUUCAUUUAUAUUUUAUAAAUAGUGCAUGUUUACAUAAUUCUCUCAUUAAUAUAAUAUAAUCAUCUAUACCUGAUAAUUAAGGAAAUAAAAAAUAUUUACGUACUAAGCAAGGAUAAUUGAAAUUAAAGAGUAUGUCAAAAGAGAAAAAAAAUAUUAAAGAUAAAUUAAAACUCUAAAAUAAAAGCCUUCAUUUGCACAUAUAGGACAAUAUCUUAGGAGGUAUUUUAUUAAAAUAAUAAUAACAAUGAUUAAAAAAUGGAAAAAAUUAUGGGUCCCAUUUUUUAAGUAUUUUCAAUAACAUAAUUAUAAACUUCUUUAAAUUUAAAAUCAUUUAUUUAAACCACUUUAUUCAUUUAGCAACAAGGACUUAAUUAAUCACUAAGAUCAAACACAAUGAUUUAUAAUUUUUAUAAUAUUUUCUUCCAUUACUAUCAUUUUUUUGUUAAUAAAAUGAAGACUUCUAUUGAUGAAUUUUUAAUAAUAAAAUGUAACUUCUUUUAAAUUAAAACCAUUUAUUAUUAAAAAAAUUUAAUUCAUCUAGGAGAUUCUUUUAACUAAUUCUUUUAGAAUUUUUUACAUUUUUUUAUUUCAUAUUUAAAGAUAAAAAAUUAUUAUGAAAUAAUUUUCUUCAUUAUAAAAUUUAUCUUUCGUUUCUAAAUCAGAAUUUUUGUCAUGUCCAUUCAUAUAAUAAAAUUAAAAUUAUAAAUAAUAAAAAAACCUAUUUUAAUUGACAGCGUCAUGGAAUCUCUCCAUGCACACCUCUUAAACCAAGUGAGCUAUGAAUGCAUGUAAGAUGUAUAUAUAACUAUAAAUAAGGAUUCAAAAUGAGGGGAAAAAUCAUUGAGAAGGGUGAACCAUGGGUGAUAAGCCACUUUCCUUUGGAUAAAUAUUAAAAGUUAAAGAGUAUAAAAUGUCUAUGUAUGUCGUCAUUUUUUUUUUCACUUUUAAGUUAAAUAUAUUUUUAUUGUUAUAAAUGAAGUAAUGAAUGCCACCACAUUUAUUAUAUGAAAUGUUCAUUAAAAGCCUAUAAAAAUGUUUCCUAUCCCCUGUAAAAUGCAUCCCAAGCAAAGAAAUAAAUUUUCUUUCUCUCUUAUUCUUUUUUAUUUUUUUAUUUUUAUUCUCCAUAUCUUUCAUUCUUUCAAUUGUCCUAAUUAUCUUUUAUGAUUCCUUCCUCUCCAUUAUAUAUUAUUAUCAAAAUAAUAUAUAGUUGUUCUUUACUUUUAUUUGUGUUGCAUUUAUCCUCUUUUUACAACACAUAAUUAGCAUGAAUUGCUCUAAAGGUAAUUCUCAUAUCUUAAAUUUGAAGUUAUUUAUAUAGAAUAAAAUUUUACAUAUUUAUAUUGGUAUUGUUAAAUUCAUUUAAUUUGUGUUAUAUAUUAUUAAAAUCUAUAAGCAAAUUAUUUGAUUUUGAUUAUAAUCAAAAGUUAUACCAAUGCUAUUAAUUUAUAACUAAUUCUAGUAAUAUUGUUUUGUCAUAUAUCUAAAGUUAUUUAACAAUGUCAAAUCUCACAAAACUCAAAUUUGUGGCACUUGACAUUUUAGGAAAGAACUAUAUAUCUUGGAUCCUUAAUGCUGAAAUACAUCUUGAUGCAAUGAAUCUUGGAGCUACAAUUAAAGAAGGAAAUCAGGCUUCCUUGUAGGAUCAUGCAAAAGCGUUGAUUUUCCUUCACCAUCAUCUCUAUAAAGGUUUUAAAAAUGAGUAUCUUAUAGUAAAGGACACUUUUACGCUAUUGAGUAAUUUGAAGGAAAGAUAUGACCACUAAAAAAUUGUGAUUAUCCCAAAAGCUUGAUAUGAUUGGAUGCAUUUAAGGUUGUAGGAUUUUAAAACUAUUAGUGAAUAUAACUCUGCACUUUUCAAAAUCAACUCUCAAUUAAAGCUAUGUGGAGAAAAAAAUCAUAGAAGAUGACUAUUAGAAAAAACUUUACUACAUUUCAUGCCUCGAAUGUGCUCUUACAACAAUAAUACCAAGAGUGUAGAUUUACAAAAUACUCUGAAUUAAUAUCAUGUCUUCUUGUUGCUGAACAAAAUAAUGAGCUUUUGAUGAGAAAUCACUAGUCUCAUCCAAUUGGAUCUGAACCAUUCCCUGAAGUGAAUGCAAUAUUGUCCCAAACUCGUGGACAUGGGUGAGGACAAGGAAAUGGUUGUGGUCACGGAAGGAAUCUCCGAUAUAAUGGUUAUUAUGGUAAUAAUUCCUCAAAUUCUCAUAAAAUGAAAGCUUUAUUGCACCACUAGAAAUGGAAUAAUACUGAGGCAAAACAAGAAAAUGGGAAGUGUUUACAAGAUUAACCUCCAAAUAACCAUGAGAAUAAUUGUUAUAAAUGUGGUAUGAAGGGCCAUUGGUUGUGUACCUAUCAUACACUCAUACAUUUGGUCAACCUUUACCAAGCAUCAAUAUAAGUAAAAGGAAAAGAGAUAGAGAUGAAUUUUACCAAUGGUGAUGGAUUGAACCUAACCUACUAUGACAUCGAUUUCUUUGGAGGUCCUAGUGAAAAAAUAGACCAUUUAAUAAAUGAUGAGAAUGCUAACAUUGAUGGGUGUUACUUUAUAUAUCAAAUAAUAUAUUAUUAUGUGUUAUAUUUAUAUCUGAUUAUUACAUUUUCUUUUAUAUUGUUAUUUUAUUAUGCCUUGUUUUUUUAAUAUUAGUUGUAUCUAAAAUCCACGUGUUAUUUGGUCUCAAGAUGAAUGAAGAUGAUGUAUGUUUCACAAAUUGUGAAACCACGCACACAAUUCUUCGAGAUAAAAGAUAUUUCAUUGAAUUGACAUUGAUAAAAGCUAAUGUAAGUACCAUAUUUAGUACUACAAGCUUAGUUGAAGGCUUUGGAAGAGGAAACAUAAUGCUACUAAAUGGAACUAGAUUUCAUAUAAAUGAUGCUUUAUAUUCUAACAAAUCUAGAAGAAAUUUGCUCAGUUUUAAAGAUAUCCACAAAAAUGUAUAUCAUAUUGAAAUUUUGAAUGACUUCCAUUAUAUCUGGCCAAAAGCUUAUGAUAGAAAAACUCUCGACUUUUUCCUCUAGGUUGUAUCAUACAACUAUAAAGCAUAUUGAAUCAUAUUUUGUCAUGAACCAGAAGUUCAACGGCCCAAAAUUUUUUGUCCUUUGGCAUGUGAGACUAGGUCACCCAGGUUUUCAAUGAUGCGUCAAAUAAUCGAACACUCACAUGGGCAUCCACUAAAAAACCAGAAAAUUCUUUUGCAAAAUGAAUACUCAUGUGCUACUUGCUCACAAGGUAAAUUGAUAGUCAAACCAUUUUUUACUAAAGUCAUAUUUGAGUCACGAGUUUUUAAAAAGAAUACAUGAGAACAUAUGUGGGCCUAUCCAUCCACCAUGUGAACCAAUUCGUUAUUUUAUGAUCUUAAUAGAUACUUCUACUAGCUGGUUACAUGUUUGUCUCAUUUUUACAAGUAAUGUUGCCUUUGCUAACUCCUUUCACAAAUGAUCAAAUUAUGAGCACAAUUCCAAGAUUAUCUAAUUAAGAUAAUACAUCUUAAUAAUGUUGGCGAAUUUACUUCUCAAACAUUCAUUGACUACUGUCUAUUGGUAGGGAUAAAUAUUGAGCAUCCUAUUGCUCAUACUCAUACCCAAAAUGGUUUAGUAGAAUUCUUCAUCAAAUGUCUCUAAUUAAUAGCUCGACCAUUACAAAUGAAAACCAAAUUACCUAUUUCUACCUGGGGACAUGUUAUUAUGCAUGCUGCAACUUUAGAUUGUAUUCAACAUAUAGCUUGCCAUGAAUAAUUCCCUCCACAACUCAUACUUGGAAAACAACUAAAUAUCUCUCACUUAUGAAUCUUUGGUUGUGCAGUAUAUGUACCAAUUGCACCUAUGCAAUGGACUAAAAUGGGUCCCCAAUGAAGACUCGGGAUUUAUUUAGGUUUUAAUUCUCCAUCUAUCAUAAGAUAUUGUUAGAAAAAUUAGGCUAAUCCAACCUAAGGUAAUUACCCUAGAAGGAAAAGGAGAGGAUGAAUAGAGUGAUGGUAUUUUUUUUUAAAAAAAAAUUAAAUUAUAUGAAUACAAGAGACAAUUAUAUGCAAAUAUAUAAUAAAACAAUAUAAAGAUAGAUGCAUAUAAAGAUCUUAUCUUGAUCCUUAUACAAAUGAAUAUGAACUAGAAGUUCAAAGGAACAUUUAUUUGCAAAAUCUUGCAAACAUAUUACUAGAUGCAUUCAUUGAUACAAAGAAAGUGACAAAGUCACAUAUCUUGGCUACAAAUACUCCAACAUGGAUUGAUGUCCCUGUAGGACAGUUAACAAAUGAACCUAAGAUAUGCUUGAAGCGUAGUAAACCUGUCGACUCAAAUGAUGUAACUCCCUAGAAGAGGAGAACACAAGAAAAACUUGGCACUUUAGAAGAGUCGUUAAAAUGACUAAUCAGUCUAAAAUUGAUAAAUCUAUAGCCCCAAAAGAGGCACAAAUAAUGCAAAAAGCCCAUGAAGAGGCACUUAUUGAACAAGAAGCCCUUGAAGAGGCACAUAUUGAACAAGAAGCCCCUGAAAAGGCACAUCUACCUGAAAAUUGUGAAAUAUUAGUAAGUUAUGUACACAUGGGAAAAAAAUGGGAUCCAAAUAAUAUUGCUAUCAACAAUACUUUUACUUUUCAAGUGGCCUAUGAUAUCAUAAGAAAUUAAUAAGAUCCCGAAUAACAAAAUAUGGAAGAAUGCCGACAUAGAAAUGAUUGGCCAAAAUGGAAAGAAGCUAUGUAAGCAAAGUUAAACUUAUUAACAAAAUGAGAAGUUUUUGGACCUGUACUCUAAACACUUGAAGAUGCAAAGUUUGUUGGGUAAAAAUGGGUAUUUGUACAAAAGUGAAAUGAGAAUAAUGAAAUCAUAAGAUAUAAAGCGUGAUUAGUAGCACAAGGUUUCUUUUAGAGACCAAGUAUUGACUACGAGGAAACAUACUCUCCUGACAUGGACAUAAUCACAUUUCGUUUCUUAAUUAGUUUGGUAAUCUCAUAAGGAUUGGAUAUGAUCCUCAUGGAUGUUAUUACAACAUAUUUAUAUAGAUCCAUAGAUAAUGAUAUAUACAUGAAAAUCCCUGAAGAAUUUAAACUGCCUCAAACAAAUAAUACAAAGACUUGUAACAUUUACUCAAUCAAGUUACAAUGAUCCUUGUAUGGAUUAAAGUAAGCGGGAUACAUGUGGUACAAUCGCCUUAGAAAAUACUUCCUAAAAGAAGGGUAUGUGAAUAACCCUAUAUGUCCAUGCAUCUUCAUUAAGAAAUCAAAAACUGGAUAUGCAAUUAUUGCAGUGUAUGUUGAUGACAUAAAUCUUGUUGGAACUCCUGAAGAGCUCAUAAGAACAAAAAAUUACUUAAAAAAGGAAUUUGAGAUGAAGGAUCUUGGAAAAACAAAAUUUUCUAUUGGUUUACAAAUCAAGCAUUUUCCAAAUGGAGUUUAGUACAUCAAUCAACAUACAUUAAGAAAAUUUUGAAGCAUUUUUAUAUGGGUAAAGCGCAUCUUUUAGCCUUUCCAAUAGUUGUUUGAUCACUUGAUGUGAAAAAGAACCCAUUUCAGUCUUGCAAAAAAUGUGAAGAAUUAGUUGGUUCUAAAGUACCAUAUAUUAGUGCUGGGUGCACUUAUAUAUCUUUCCAAUUGUACAUGUCUAAACAUUGUUUUUUCUAUCAAUUUAUCAGCAAGAUAAAGUUCCACUCCAACUCAAAGACAUUGAAAUGGUAUCAAACAUAUAUUGCACUAUCUUUGCGGAGCUACUGAUGUGAGUCUAUUUUACUCAAAGGAAUCAAGCAACAAUUGCUUGGAUAUGUAGAUGCAGGAUACCUUUCAUAUCCACAUAAAGAUAGGUCAUAAACAGGGUAUAUGUUUAAUUGCAAUGGUACUGCUAUUUCAUGGAGAUUUGUUAAACAAACAAUGAUGUCACAUUAUCAAAUCAUUCAAAAAUACUUGCAAUUCAUGAAGCAAGUUAUGAAUGUGUUUGACUAAGAUCUAUGAUUCAACAUAUUCGAUAACCAUAUGGACUUUUCUCUAUCAAAAGUGGCACGACAAUAUUAUUUGAAGAUGAUGUUGCAUACAUUGCACAAAUAACAGGGGGUCAUAUUAAAAGAGAUAGAACUAAACACAUUUCAUCAAAAUUAUUUUAUACACAUGAACACCAGAAAAGUGGUGAAAUUGGUGUGCAACAAAUAUGCUCAAGUGAUAAUCUAGCAAAUUUAUUCACAAAGUCAUUGCCAACCUCAACAUUAAAGAAGUCAAUACACAAGAUUGGAAUGCAUCAACUCAUAUCAACAUGAGGGAGAGUUUGCUUGUAAAAGGGUGUUAGUGUACUGUACUUUUUUUCCCUUUGUCCAGAUUUUGUCCUUUUGGGUUUUACUAGCAAGGUUUUUAAUGAGACAGUCCUAACAUAUCAAGAGCAACUUAAAGAAUUAUCACAAUAUUGUACUGUUUUUCCUUCGCUAGGUUUUCCUAUAGGGUUUUUUACUAGCAAGGUUUUAAUGAGACAUAUUCUUCUAAUGUGGUUGACAUUCAAGGAAAAGUGUUUAAACAAAGUAAUGAAUACCACCACAUUUAUUAUAUUAAAUAUUCAUUAAUAUUAUUUAUGACUUCCAUUAAUAUUCAUUAAUGGAAGCCAUUUGGAAAGCCUAUAAAACAACUUCCCAUCCCCUGUAAGAUGCAUCCUAAGGAAAGAAAUAAAUUCUCUCGCUCUUAUUCUCUAUGUCUUUCAUUCUUUCAACUCUGUUAAUUCUCUUUUCUGAUUCUUUCAUUCCCAUUAUAUAUUAUUAUUAAAAUAAUAUAAAGUUGUUAUAUACUUUUAUUUACGUUGCAUUUAUCCUUGUUUUACAACACUUAGUUUUUUCUUUUCUCUAUUUUAUUUUAUUUUUUUCUCUUCUAGUUAUUAUAAUUAUAAUAAUAAUUAUUAUUGUUAUUUUAUAAACAUAAUAUAACCUAUCAAAAAAUAAUAAUAAUAACAUAUUUAUAAAUAAUAUAAUAAUUAAUUUACAAAUUAUUGUUUCAUUUGUUAUUAUUAUUAUUGUUAUUAUUAUUUCAAUUUUUUUUAAAUAUCAUAUAUAACUUAUACAAUAUGAAUAAUAAUAAAAUAAUUUUACAAAUAUUGUUUCAUUCAUGUUUUGAAGACAAAGUUUUCUUAUAUAAACUUUCAUAAAUUUUCAAUUGUUUUUUACAAUAUGAUUAUUAAGAAAAUAUUACAAUAAAAAAUUAGUAUUGAUAAUUAUGAAAAAACAAAAUUAAAGCAUGUGUUAUCGUACUUUUAGUGUACUUAUAUUUUAAUUUCAAUGCAUAACUAUGACACAUACAUUUUGUCACAAACUUAAUAGUGUUAGAAGCAUUGUCUUAUCCUAGUAUAUUGAUUUCUAUAUUAUUAAGGCAUCCCAAUGAAUUAGCAUCAUAUACUAGAUGCAUUCUUAUUAGCAAUAAUUCUUAUAAUGAAACUCAUACACCUUAUAAAAAAAAUGUCUUAUAAGGUUAAUUUAUAGUAGAUGAAAUGUUAAAAAAUAUACAAAAUAUAUGACAAUCAUUUAUCAAUGCUUGUUUAAAAGGAAAAAUUUUAAAAUAAAGUUAGGUUAUGCAGUAAUGUAUAAGACAUUUAAAGUAUUCAUGUUGUAAGAUCAUUAUAUUUUUGUGGUACGAAUACGUUGGCUUUUAUAUUAAUACAUAAUAUCGGUGUACUAGCAUUAUACAUUUAAUGAAUCAUUAUUAUGCAUGAUUUUUAUAAUAAAGCCUAUAAGUUUUAAGAAUUAGGUGAAAGAAAGAUCAUAUUCUAAGAUUGGUUUAUAAUCAAUGACAUUAUAAUAAUAAAAAAUAUGAAUAAUGACACAUAUGAAAUAUUAAUAAUGUAAAACUAAUAUCAUAAAUAAUAAUAUUAAUAAUGAUGAUAAUAAUAAAUAUAUAAUUAUAAUUUUUUUUAAUAAAUAGUAUAGUUAGUCUUAACAUAUAGUAAAUAAAGCACAAAAGGUAGAAAAGAAAAGUAGAAAAGUAAAGUUAUAUGGGAGUAGGAGGAAAAGACAAAAUGAUGUAAUUGGAAUUAUGGAAUGAUCAAGUUAUCAAACUAUAACUUGUGAAUUUGACAAGACUUUGAGACUUGGUGACCCUUAAGGGAGAGCUUAUCAUCACUUCGAGCUAGGUGACCAUUUUUUAAAAAAUUUCAAAAAUAAAGCCCAUGAAAAAUUUAUUUAUUAAGAAUAAUAACAAUUUUGUAUUUUUUUAUAUACAAAUUAGAUAUUUAAUUUAUUAGAAUCAUUUUGAUGGUAAUGACAAACAAAAUAACUCCUUAAAUAGGUGAAAUAAUUCAUUUUCUCAAAUUUAUAUGCAAAAUUAUUUUAAAACAAAAGGGAUGAUACAUUAUUUUUGUUCAACAAUCCACAUUUUGACUUUCAUUUUAAAAUCCAUCUAUAAAAAUCUCUCUUUAUAUAUAUCUGCCUAGAUUGCCUGAUCAUCUAUUCAUUCAUUGUCUAUAACUUCUUGCCUGAUUAUCAAUUUAGAUGUUCAUAUUUGCAUAUAUUUAUUCAUUCCACCAUGUAUUUUGUUGCUUAUUUGUAAUGUUUACAAUUUUGAUGAAAUGUUUGAUUAUUUGAAAACCGAAUUUCCCCAAACCCACUAAUAAAAAGCAACUAAAAGUCUGACCAAUCUAGAGGGGUGUUCUUGGCCGGUGGCCAUCCUGAUAAGUCACCUUAGCCGUAGACUAGAUUUAGAUUUUGCAAUUAGUACCUUUCUUUUCCUUCUAGGAAUCACUAUCAUCUUGACCAAUCUAGCCAUGUACCAAAAAGUCAAUUUUGCCAAGUUUAAAAAGUUUGCUUUAAGCCUGUUCAUCAUAGUUGACAGAAGUUAGAAUUACAAUGAAAUAUCUAGGAGAAAAUGUCCGCAGGAGCAGAGAGAGAGAGAGUGAAGGCAAUACAUUCAGUCAUGAAUUUGAUGCAAAUCCCAACGUACAUAAUUGUAUCGAAUACUCUCACCAUGAUUGUCGAUCUAUCGGAUCAGACGAUUACUAUGUUUGCCAAAAAUGCCUGGGCCGUAUGUGGAAUAAAUCAAUUCCACAAGGAAGGGAAACUGCAAAAUUCCGUACAAGGUCACUGGCAAACAGACUAAUGCUGCCAAGGUAAUAAGAAUCCAUGCCUUCUUUUCACCAAAGAGAAGAUAGAUUGCGCUACUGUAGGCUAUCAUCAUGAAUGUUACGGAGAGGAAUAGAGUAACAAGGCCAAAUAUCAACCUCCUGGGAAGGGCAAAAAGAAAAUCAUCUUCUGCAUAUCGUGCCGUGAGAAUGGAUAGGCAUAUCAGCACCGAAGCAAUGGAUAGUAAGAGGGAAAGAGCAUCGGAAGCUGCAAAAACUUUGAAGGCCUUUUCUUUGGUGAAAUUUGGUAUGCCAGUAUCAUCAUGGUUGCCACCCGGGAUGGUAAUUGCUGCUGCAAACACUACAGUAGCAAUAAGCGCUGCUGCUAAUGUGUAACAUUUUGCUGUGCCUUUCAUCCAUUUCUCCCUUUCUUUUAUCAAUUUUUCAUGUUCCUUUAUAAAUGCCAUUUUCGGUUUAUCUUUUUUUUCAUUUCUCAGAUUCACUGAAGGCUCUCGGGGCAUAUUUUUCAAUUUCCUUUGUAAAAAUCAAAAUGUUUCUAAGAUACAGAAAAAGAGUGGAUAUGUAUAAGAAAAUUAAUUCCCCUUCAAAACAAAAAUUAUUACCUUAAACCAAUGUAACUCGCGUUGCAUUUGUAGAGCUGCACCAGAAACGAGACUGAGCCGGUGCGGAGGGGCCAAUUUUCCAACCAAAUGCAAGAUGUUAUUUAAAUCAUCUUUGGCUCGUAUUAUAAGUUCUCUAUGCAUAUCGGUUCCACAGAUGAGGUUGAAAAUCUUUUCAUAACGAUUUAAUACUGCCAAUUUGAAUACAUCCUCAUCCAGAUACUCGAGGGCAAAAGGAUAUGACUUCAUAAUCUCUUGCAGAAUCUCGGGAAUCCCAUAUUUUGCCCCAGUAAUGAAGGCUAGUUUAAAUAUUUCCUGUGCUCUUGAUGCUUUCAAAACUUCAGUACAUAGGUGGUUAAGCAAUUGAAGAGUCAGAGAAUGCAUUGUUUUUGUUUCUUGGAUGUGCUUGAUGGGUGGUACUGCAAUUAAAAUUAUAUUAAGGACAACAUAACAUUGCAUUCAAAACUUUUGCAUGCUUUAGUGGUAGUUUUGUUGUGUUCCUUACCUAACCAUCCAACCAGUUCCCAGAACAUUGCAUUCACCUUUCGGCAAGUUGUGUGCAAUGAAAAUUGAAGCAGUUCAGAUGCAAAAGCAGGACUAACAGAAGAAAAAACAAAAAAGCAACCCUGAAUCAAGUACCAAUUAAACACUAAUCUAUCAGAGCUUUUUGGGAUUCAAUAGGUUUCAUAUACUUCCCUUAAACCGUCGCACUUGAAUUUAAAGGCUAGAAUCAAGAAGCCUAAUGAAACUUGGUACAAGCUCAAUUACUCGACUUCUUAUUAAUUAACCAGGAGCAUCAGGUGACAAGAUAUUCAUAAAAUCUAUCAGAGCAAUGAAAAUUGUGUAUCCUACAUAAUUCUUUGAGUAGUAGAGUAUUAUCCAUUGGAAUUUGAUUGUAGAGCUGAUUUCAAAUCCAUUACUUGAACUUAAAAGGAAAAAAAUGAACACAAUUUUGUGAGGACAAAUUAAAAUUGUGAGGAUCUCAAAUUCAACAAGUUAGCAUUUCUCUACCAGGUGCAAUUUGGCAAAUUGGUUUGACCUAACUUGAAUAUCGGAGAAGUUGAGAAACCAUUUUUAGUACUCAAGUUAGAAUUUGGUCAAGCUUCUCAACCAAAAGUUAAUUUGGGUUGAGCUCAAUUUUGGGCUGAGUUCAAACCAAUGCUUCAACAAUCUAAGUUGAAUUAAACUCCAUUAAUAUUUUAUAAUAUUUAUAGAAUAUAUUACUAUAUAAUAAUAUCAAUUUUUUUUUCUAAAAUAAUUUUAAGGGAAAAACCAUCAAAAUAUAUUAAGCCAACUCUCAGAAAUUUGCCUACCCCCUUGUGAACACUAUUUGGAAGGAAAAUUAAUUAGGAAGCCUCUUAAGCAAGCCAGAAAGGUAUUUGGUCCUCUGUAGCCUAUGCAUUCCAUAGUACAGGGCCUAAUGAACAUGAGAGCAAAGCAUGGUGCCUACUACUUCAUCACAUUUACGGAUGGUUAUAUCUACAAGUCCAAAUAAUUGCUUUGAUUUAGAUGUUAUAUGAAUAUUGUAAAAAAAUGAAAAGAAAAAACUAUUACAACAUUAAGGAUAAAUCAUGGACAUGAGUAUCCAUUGAAGAGUUUUAAAAAUCUCUAUGAUGAAAAGCAAAUCCAAAGAACAAUCAAUAGCUUCAAGGACUCCACAGUAAAAUGGUUGAACUGAAAAUAGUAACCAUAAACUUUUGGAUAUGGUUCACUCAAAAAGGCACAAGCCAACUAUCUAACAUCUUUCAAGGUGGGAAAGGAGGGUUACUAUUUUGAUUGCAACUUAAAUCUUGAGUGAAGUGCCCUCAAAAUCAAUUACUUCAAAUCCAUAUAGUUAAGAAGUCAAACCUAACUCACUUGUGAUCCUAAGGGUUAGUAGGUUUAGUUCAUGUAAAUUCUCAUAGAUAUUGUGCUAUAAAGGAAACAAGUGCACUUUCAUUCAUUAGAUAUUCUAAGAAAUCAAAGGUUGUGUGAUGCUUAGUGAACAACUCAAUGGGAGUAUAAUUGAAAUAAAGUCAGAUGAAAUCACUUUCUUAUAGGAUGAUAUUUUGAGCAGAGGAGCAUUGAACAGGAGUCUCAAUUUAUUUGAGGCAAUUAAACCAAAGGAAAAUACUAUGAUAUCUCAUAUCGAACAGGGGAAAAAGUUCUUGACAUUAUAUAUAUAUAUAUAUAUAUAUAUAUAUAUAUAUAUUAGCUUCUCUUAAUUAUUUAGACACAUUUUAAUGUUGUGAGGGUGUAGACCCUCAAUUUUGUCCCUUUAACACAUGUCUUUAAAUCCGUUUUCAAUGCUCCGUAAUAGUUCCUUGGUGGCCCAUAGCUACUCAUACCACUUACCUUUUUUUUGAGUCACCUUGGAGACUUUGGUUGAGGGAUUAUUUGAUCCCUUAUUGUGACCCUUGGCAACCCUAACUUAGACUUAGGCUUUUCUUGUUUUUUUUUUAGGAUAGCUUUUAGAUACACUUGGCCCAUUAGGCACCACCCUAGGCCCACUUAGUCUCACCUUAGGCCCGUUUAGGCACACUAGGCCUACGAAGACUUUUAUUUUAUUUUAUUUAUUUAUUUAUUUAUUUUGUUUUAGUUUUAAUUUUAUGAUUAUCAUUCACUUUUUAUUGGUUAUCUUCCUCUUUAUAUUAUUUUCCUUAACUUAUUUAUUUAUUUAUUAUUUUUACCAUUUUCUAAUUUAUUUACUUAUUUAUCUAUUCAUGCAAUUAUUUAACUUAAAAAAUUUCAUGUUUUUGCAAGGAAACUUACCAUUGGAGUUUAAGGAAGGCGGGACCCUCCUUGGAAGGUUUUGGAGGGGAAUUUGAAAUUGGGAAGAUUGCUUUUGAUUGGAAGAUUUAAAAAAAGAGAAGAGAAGAAGAAAGGAAAUAGGAGAAUUCUCCUUUUUGGAAACAAAUUUAGGUCUUGAGGAGUGAUAUAUAAAGAGAAAAAAGGAAAAGAAGAGAAAGAGGGGGCAGCACGCAUUGGAGGAGAUUGGUUUUAGAGAAGAAGAAGGAAGAUAGCAAAAAAAGAGAUUUUUUAAGAAAACUUUCAGCACGCAUUGAGAACGGAGGGGAAUUGGAAAAGAGAAGCAAUCUUUGCCUCUUUAAGAGAAGUUCUAAGGUAAGUUUUCGGAGGAUUCUUUUUAUUUUUAUUUUUCUGGCUUAUAUCCCUAAUCUAUGUUCUUCAUUCUCUCAUUUUAUGAUUUGGGACACUGUUUGCUUGGUGGGUUGAAGAUGUAAGAAACUUCAUGCGAACUUUAUUGAUUUCUGGUUCUUGUUUAUGCUUACUGAUAUGGUUUCAUUCCUCGCUAUUCUUUUUCUUUUUUUUUAUUAUUAUUUUCUAUCAUAUGAACUCAGUGAGACUCUGUUUUAUGGAAUAUUAUUUGAUGAUAUUGGUUGCCCUGUUUCUCUUUUACUCCUCCCACUAAUCCAAGCCCAUGGAUUAACAUUUGAAAUGGGGACAUGUUUAUUGGCAUCCUCUGCUUAUUCCUUCUCCGGUCUACUAUGUGUCUAUCCAUGUCCUCUGUUCCCCUUUCCAUACUGCAUUCCAGUCCUUGUCUGUAUAUUUGGGUGUGUAUCUGAGACCGAUAGAAGUACUGAUGUGAAAGAUAAGGUGUGUAGCACACGCAGUGUGCUCAGUGUAUUCCUGGUGGAGUGCGGAGAAUGAAGGGUAGUGAUGGAGAUUCAAAUCAUGUGAAUUUGGUUGAAUUACAGAAGAAGGCUACCACUUUGAAUUUUCUCUACGUGGCAUAUUGGGAUUAAAAGAGUUCCACGCAUAGUCCAUGAUGAAGACAGCCUGCAAGCAUAAAUGGGUAUCCCACGUGGCUAUGAGACUAAAUGAUAUUCCCAUACAAGUCUGCACCUUUGUGAGAGACGUGUCGCUAUUGAAGAAGCAGCCGCAUCCUUGAGACUGUCUGCGCACAAGGAGAAUCUCCAGGGGUGCUUACCUUAUGUACAGAUUUGCAUGGUGAUUAGCUACGCUCAGGUAGUCCUGAAAUGCUUGCAAAUCUGCAUGGUUCACCAAUUGAGUCCGGGAAUUCUGACAGAUCUUCAGGAAUGGAUGACGAGUCCAAUAACCGCGAGGUGAAUUCUAAUUUAGAAGUUCCUAAUGCAAAUGCUGGUCAUGCUAAUGCUCUGCAUGCCAGCGCUGAUGUUGAUAUGAAUGGUGCUAGUCUUGAAGAUCAAAUUGAGCCAACUGGCCCGGUUUCUAAAUAUGGCACGGGUGAGCCACAGUCAAGGCCAAACACUCUAGUUCCUUGCUAUUGAGAUCUACUAUUUAUCAAAAAGACCUAUCCCCAAAUCAGUCCAACAGAAGCCGAAUCAAUUGAAACAUGAAAGCAAUGAGGGUACAAUAUAAAGGGGCAGUUUUUGGCGAGCCGAAUCCGCACCCUUUCGUCCUUGUUGAUGUUGCAUAGAAACUUACGGUGAAUGAGAAAACCAGUCAGUCAAUUCUGGUUAGUGGUGAAAGUGGGAUGCUUAUGCGUUAUCUCGCCUACAUGGAAGGGAGAUCUGUAGCUAAGGGAAGGACUAUUGAGCAACAAAUUCUAGAGUCCAAUCUAGUUCUAGAAGCAUUCGGUGAUGCAAAGACUGUCAGAAACAAUAAUUCAAGUCGGUUUGGUAAGUUUGUGGAGAUUCAAUUUGAUCAGAGGAGAAGGAUUUCAAGAGCAACUAUCAGGACUUAUUUUCCGGAAAGAUCCUGUGUUUGUCAAGUGCCUAAUCCUGAGAAAUUAUCAUCGCUUCUACAUGCUUUGUGAUGCAUCAGCGGAGAAUGUUCAAAGGUCCAGAUUGGGAAAAGCAGGAAGUUUCCAUUAUCUGAAUCAAUCCAAUCGCUAUGAGCUGGAAGGUUGACAGCAACUAAAGACCUUUGCCAUCUCAUUUUUCCCUCACUAAAAUCUGAACCUAAGGCAUACAUGCAUGCUGUCACCAUGGCUCCCGGUCACUCACAUCUAGAAGAUAAGAACAUAAGGAAAAUUCUUGUGGUAAAUGAGCAAACAGACCUGUUUUUACACAGUUCGUUGAUGAUUCACAUGAAAGCAUUUGAUUCAAGACACCAUCUCGCGGAACUGAAAGCGAUGUUAAGGAGAGAACUGAAGGUUUGGUCUUCUGGUUUGUGCUUGGAGGGGAAUAGGAUUUCUGCUGGAGGUAGUGGGAGCCUUUCUGAUAAUUCUUCCAGAGAUUCUGUUGCAAAUGAAACCAGUGCAGCAUCUAGAACUGACAAACCAGCUUUGGAGCGAAGAGAUAAAAAGUACUCUUCAAAUAAUAAUGGUCCAGAAGUGGAGAUUAGUCGCUGUUGUGUAGUCCUUUAGUCUUCACUAAGACUAUUAGUUGGCAAAGUUCACCAGAUUUUGAGGCAAUUCAAGACUAAUUUACUUGAUAUGGAUGCUGCUCUCCCUGAGGAGGCUCCAAGGCCAUCAAGGCCUGACUUAGAAAAGAAAUUGGCAUGGCAUGCUUUUGAUUAAAUCUGCAGAGACAAUCUUUGAGAUGGUUAAAGCAACAAUCAUGCUCGAGGGCAUGAUUAAGAUUGAAUACUUGAUGAACGGAUGGUGGCAUUGGUCAUCACUCUCUGCUGUUGCCAAGACUUCUAUCGUUUCUUCCCUUGCCCUCUGCAUAUACUCUCUGGAUGCUGCCAUUGCGUAUGAGAAGAUCUCAUUUAAUUUGGAUGACUGGCAGUCCCUCGCUCAACCAGAAAUGACAGUAUCUCCCACUCAGCAGAUGCCACAUGCAGAACAGCCAAUUCCUCCAUAAGUUAACCAUCCUUCCUCAUCUUCAGCUAUUGCAUUAUCAAAUUUUCUCCAAAGUGCUAGUGCAAAUGAAUCAAAAGGAAGCUUAGUUAAAAGUCCUAACCUGCUUUUGUCCGAAUUAUCAGAGUUUUCAAAAGAAACAUUGCAGCAAAUACACGAAUCAAUUGGAUUCAGCUUAUAGUCUCAAUGCUGAUGGUGAAAAAUAGCUAUGCUGAUCCAGAAGAGUAUAGUGAUGAAGAUUACAGUAGUUUCCAGAGGCCAAAAGUAGUAAUUGAAGGAAAACCAGAGAAGACUCUCAAAGCCAAAAGAAUCAUGGGACUCUGAACAGUUUGAGGAUCUUUGAUCAGAUCAGUCCAGAAAUCAAUCCUAAUCAGAGGAUGCAUACUGAUAGAGAUCAGGGAAGGUAUCUGUUUACUAGGACACCGUCCAGACUUGAACUUACUGACAAGCACUCUAAAUUUGGCAUCCAUGUUUUCUACUAAAGAACAGCUACUGCCUCUUUGUGAGUGCUUCCCUGCGUCUGUUGCUUCAGAAAAAUCAAUGAGUGGCAGUGUGCAUUUGAAUUGGUUUGUGAAGCAAUGUAUACUGAGCUGCGAAUUGUUCAUCAAGAUAAGUAUGGCUGGGUCCUCCAUGCUGAAAGUGAGCGGCGAACCUAUCUCCAACGACUCGUACAUGAGCGAGGAAUACUUCCAAUGCACAAAACAAGUCUGAUUGAAGGUCCUGAAUAGCAGCUUUGUCCCAUUGAAAGUCCAUAUAGGACGUGCCAGAAGCUUGAAAGAUGCAAAUUAAAAAUCGAUACCAUCCAAAAUGUUCUAGAUGGACAGUGUGAAUCAGUGGAAAUAGAGCUGUCCGGAGAGAAAAAUGAGAUAGGUUUUUCGAAGCAUCUGAUACUGAUUCUGAGUCAUAUCUCCCUCUUUUAGACAGUGGUGUCAAACAGAUUGAUGACAAAUAUUUUGAUGAAUCAUUCUUUAAAGAAUCAGAUGAUAUUAAAGAUGUUGCUUCCGCAAGGAGUGGAUGGAAUGGUGACCGAGCUAGCAUCAUAAAUAAAGCAAGUCUUCACUCUGCUUUGAAUUUGGUGUCAAGUUUAGUGCAGCCACUGUCCUAAUGUCAGAGCAUUCAUGGGAUAUCUGACACAGGAUCUCCAAGGCAGUCUUCUUCUAAGAAAAAUUGAGGAGGGGAAAGAUAGUGAGGAUAAAGUGGAUAAGGAACCGCUUGAUAAUAGUGGAUACUUAACUAGACCGUACCUGGAACCUCUUGCAAAGAUGAAAUUCAGAUAUAAUUGCGAACAAGUAGUUGGCCUUGACAAACAUGAAGGAAUGCGAAGAUAAACUCUCUGUUAUUGAUUAAGCUUUGGGAGCAAUGAAGAAUAUUAAUUUGCGGGUGUGCCGUGGCAUGAGGGUUGCUGUUUGUGGUACUGUAAGCUCAGACAAGUCAAGCUUACUAUCCUGUAUGUUCUGAGAGGUGUCUAAGAUAUCUGGUAUCUUUAAACUGUGUGGAACAAAGGCCUAUGUUACUCAGUCUCCUUGGAUACAGAGUGGCAAGAUAGAAGAGAACAUCUUGUUGGUAAAGAGAUGGACAGAGAAAGACCAAAAUACGAUUGAUACAAACAUUGCAACAGCCAAUCAAGCCAUCCUUUGCCUCUUAAAACUAUGAUGAAUCCAUUAUGAGAUCGCCACCAUCCCCGAUAUAUUGAACCAUCACAAUCUUUUGAGUCUGAAUUCCCUACACUGCAUGUAUUAUCAAGAAACAACCCUUCAACAUCCUCACCGCUGUCAGCAUCUCAUGCAGAGCUAGAAGACAGCCCACAGCAGAACCCCCAACUUCUGUACAAAAGCAUCUAAAGAUAGCUCCAAUUCCAGGAGUUGAUGAUUUAAUUGAUCAAAUGGCUGUCACAACUGGUCUUCUUUUUUUUUAUUUUACCUUUUAAUGGAAGCCACUCAGCCUUCUGUUGUUGAUGCAAAUUCAGAGCGAGAAAUUGAAAUUGAAGUCUAGAGUGAGAUCCUUUUUUACGAAAAGGAAACAAACAUUGAUGAUAGUGAAUAAUGGUGUUCCCCUUAAUCAAGACUUCAUCAGUAACUUACCCUCUCUGAUCCUGUGCAUGGAACCAUGGAAUUCGUAUCCUCUGCAAUGAGCUUACAGCAUAUGUGCUGACACAAAGCAAAGGGAGAAUCAGAUUAUGAUGAGUACAGAUCAGCAUGGGGACGAGAAGGUCUGGGUUAACCAUCUUCAAAGAGCUUGUGUACCUUACCAAAUCUAAAUAGCAAAGGAGAAAUAAGAGAAUGGUGGAGUACGGUGUCUUCUAGGAGGUCACUCUCGAAAGUCCAGAAAUGUAGGAUCCAUCAGUAAGCUCUAAGUUACUGCCCCUUUGCCUUCACACACGCGAAGAAGUUGCUGAAUCCUAUUGACUGAGAGAUAGUUUCUGAUUCUGGGCAAUUUGAUAUGCCUAAAGAAUGGGAAGUUAUUCGGGAAACUGAACAUCUGAAGAUCAAUAAAGACAUAAGCAUUCAGUUAAUGUUUAGCAGGUUGACGACAGAAACAGAACCCUGAUGUUAAUAUAAGGGAAAUUGCUGAUACACAUUUCCAGAUCAGAUGAUAAGUAGAAAUUGCUUUUCUGCCAGCGUUUCCUCUUUUCUGCCAUGGCGAAGCACCUUUAGGAUGAUGACAAUGGUUCUACUUUCUCCAAUGUGGUGAAUCCAAAUGACUUCUUGUCAUUCUCUGAACCUGAAUUAGAAGAAAUAUUGGAAGAUAUCAGCUGGAGUGCACCAAUCUGGUUUGGGUUGUGAUGCCAGUAGCAUGAAAACAGGAACUUUAGGAAGAGAUGGUAGUGAAAUUUCUUUCUCCACAAUUGUAUGAGCGAAUCGAGUUUGCAGACAGCGACCACUGAUGUAAGAACGCAGAAUUCCAUUUCAGCAAUCUACAGAAACAUCUUCAGGCAACCCAAGUAAUUCAGUCUCAAAAGUAGCCUAGACACUAAUCCAGCUUGGCCACCUCACCACGCAUCAUACUCCUUCUAUUGUUUCUUUUUCUUCUUUUGUGAUUUUAUACAUCUUAAAUCUAGAUUUCAAAACCAUUCUACGUCAAAAUAACUCCAAUUUUCUUUAAACUUCUUUAGAAGCUCCUAGGUACAAAAUCCAGAUUUUAACAUGCAAUUUGCUGCCACUUUACUUCGGGUAUGCACUUUCACUGUUUUCUUUGAUUUUAACUAUUUUCGUGUUUUUCUUGAUUUUCCUAAGCAUGAACAAACUUCAUAAUUCCAAAUCAUGGAAUUUAUGGAAUCAACUCAUGCGAAAUUAAUUAGGGCUUUGGUGGGGGCCCGACAUUCAUGAUACCUUAUUCAAUAUUGUUUGCUUGAUAUGUUGAUUUUUGAUUCUUCUUGAUGAUAUACAUGAAUGUGUUUCGUAUUUAUUGUUGAGAUGCUCUUGAUCCCCAUAGAGGAGUACUAGCUUGCUAUUCAGGUACGCUCUCUUCUCAUCUAUUUUUUUUUAGAACUCUAUAGACUUGUAUGCCAUUGAUAACCAUAUCCAUAUUUGACGUGAUUCUUGGAUGACUUGAUAUAUGCCUGACUUGCUUGAAUAAAACAAAUGUUGUGUGCUACAUUCCUACACUAACUUUUAUGUUUUAUGAUAGCGCUUGAAGAGCGGUUCAGGUACGCACCCUAACUCUCCUUUAUUGUGAUUUGAUCUUGUUUAACAUGCAAUUUUUUGAAAUCACCUAGCCUACUUAGGUAUCCAUAAUUAACCGAUUAAUUGUCAUAUUCCCCUUAACUUAGUUAGUAGAGACCUUUAUAGGGCUUAGAGGGGUGCUGCCUUUCAAAGGUACCUUCCCAAUAGGUAACCUAAUCCCCGGACUUAGACUCGGGUUUUUCAAAGACGCUUUUUCCAAAAAUUAUGGAGUCAUUUUUUAGGGUUUUAUUUCUUGUUUUAUUUUCCCCUUUAAAAAAAAAUAAAAUAAGUGGCGACUCCAACUUUUUUUCCAAAAAUCAAUUUUUCACAAAAUAAUAAAAAGCGAGUCUCGCCGAUCGAGUGGGGACGCACGUGAAAAAUGCGGGUCCACAGAGGGCUCUUUGAGCCCAAAGUGGAUAGUAUAUAUUUACACAGUUGGAAGUGAGUCAUUACAAAUGGUAUCAAAGUGUAUCCCCAGUCAUGAUAUGAGAGUUUAUCUCAUCAUUGUAAUUAUGGGCAUUAAGGUGAAGCUUUCAUGUUUGCAUCAUAAGAUCAUGAUGUUAGGAUAGAUUCUUUAAAAGCAUGAUAUGAUGUAACCAUAAAUGGAAUUCAUUAAUACUUAUAUUAUGACUUUGAAUUUCUAUUCACUAUCCUAUUUAUGAAUUAUGUAUGUUAAGCCUUCAAACCUACAUCACUUGCAUGUACAUGACUUGAGUGAAUUAGGAGUUACAUGAAAAAUCUAAGUCAUAGAUUCCUUGCAAGUUAAUGACUCAUUCACAACUGGUUCAUGGACUUCAAUAAACCAUUUGAGGCUAUAGUGCACUACCUCCUAAUUGGAGGGAUAACUUGCCCUAGUCAUUAGGAUGGGUUUCCCAUGGUGAGUGUACGUACUAGUGUGUUUAGUUAUGUUGGGAAACCUAGAUCUCUCCAUUCCCAUAACCCUGGAUUGUAUAGGUGCAUGCAAAAUACCCUAGGCCUCUAAAUCCUAUGCAACAAAAGCAAAAAUCAAAAUUUUAACAUUCUAUAAUCUAGAGAAAAGUCACCAAAAACUUUGAGAAAAUUAAAGGUUAAUCUUAAUAGAGAAAACACCCAAGAGAGGAGGGAAGGGGGGGGGGGGGGGGGGGGGGUUUGAAUUGAGUUUUUAAAAAAUCAUUUUCAAACACCACAAAUUCAAGAAAAGGAAACACAAAUAUAAAGAGAUAAGGUUAAAAAGAGUAAAAUUAGAUUUUAUAGUGGUUCAGCACUUCCUUGCCUACAUCCACUCUCCUCAACCUCUUAACUGAGUGAAGGUUCCACUAUACUUGAAGCUUCAACUAAGCUUUUAAUCACCUUUACACUUGGAUUCUAGCUCCAAUGGACUAUUACAUAAUCCCUUCAAGUCUUAACUCACUUGAAGCUUUUAGCAUUCAAAAUAACAAGUUUGAAUCUCUCAACCUAGCUCAACAAGGGCUCAAAUACAACUUAAAUGUUAGGAAGAAUCACAAGGGGGCACUAAGGAAUAUGCAAAUGGAUAUUUAAUGCACUAAGGAAAGAAUGAGAGCUUUUGAGGCAAGAAUAAGUAGGCAGACAAAUAAAUGCAGGUGUUCUCUACCUCAUAAAUGAAGUGGAGUUCUCAAUUUGUAGGUUUCUAGCCUCAGGAGUCAAAAAUGCCGAAAAACGGCCUUGACCAGUCGAGUUGGGGUUACUAGCCAUUGGACAAUAAAUGCAUGAUAGGUGAUCGUUACACCUCGACUGGUCCUUGACCAAAUCUUGAUUAGAUCUCAACCGAGAAGGCAUAUCCCUUGAUCGGGAAUGCAAAGCUAUAAGAAGAGAGAGAAGAUUUUUGCAUUUCUGGACUAGACCUCGAUCAAGAAGGUGUAAUCAGUUAACCAGUGCCCUAGCCGGUUGAGCCAGUUGGCUAGUGCCUUGACCAGUUCACCAUUUUUUGCCUGAAAACCUUUUUUUUUUUUUUUUGUUCUUUUCUCUUCUAACACUUAAACAAGGUAUUUAGGUAAAUUAAUAUGCCAAUUUUGAAACAAUUUGCCUAAGGUUCAUAUGAUAAAACUCAUGUUUUGACGAAAAUGUAACUUUAAUGCCUAAACUGAGUUUUUAAAGUGCAUGAAAAGAUAUGAAAAUCCUAAGUGCACCAUGCAUUCAUCUUACAUAUGUUUCCUAUUAUUAAAGGGUCUUCCAAUUGUCUUGAUCUUGCAUCCAUUGGGUCCUUUGAUGAAUUUCCAAACUAAUACUUGAAAUUCUUUAUAAUUCAAACCAAGUAACAACUUAACCAUGGUUUGUUAUCAUCAAAACAUGAUUAGGAGAACCCUUGGGCUAACAAACUUUAGAUUUGAUUUAAAUGGUUCUUAAAUCAAUUUUGCUUAGUGAAGGUGAAUCCUAAAGAGUUCAGAUGUCUCACACACCAAAAAUCUUUUGCUUGAUGACUUGAUCCAUAAUCUUGGCACUCCAAAAUGUGGGCUUUGGAAUAGAGGAAUCCUAGGCUCUCUCUCUUUAGACAUAGAAGAUGAUUGUCUCUCAAAAAGUGAUUGGAACCCUAAGCUUUAAAGGGUAUUUAUAGCAUUUCCCUACUAGGCUUAAAUGACUUGAGCCCACUAAGGCUUGGGCCACUUAAUCUUAUCUAAAAUGGGUCUUAAUUGAUUAAUUAACCAUACAUGAUCAUCUAAUUAACCAAUUCAUGUCAAUGAGAUAAUAAAGAGAAAACAAAAAAUAUAAAUAAAUUUCUAUCUGUUACAUCAUGUCAUGCUUUUUAGGGCUCAAUCCUAAUAUGUUACACAUUAGAUAAGAUUUAUGGUGAGUCAGAGAUUGGUCAUUAGGUAGCCUUAACUUCACCAAGCUACUAUGUUGCAUAAGCUCUCAACCUUGAGAGAAUAUUGAUCUAGUGCUAAGGUCUUCAAAGGCUUUGACCCAUGAGUGAGACCCUAAAGUGGUCAUAUAUUCUCUAUAGAUAGGAUUACUAUGAUUGAGGCAUGUGAUAAUGGGUAUUCUCAAGAUAAGCACCAUGAUAUCUUAAGGGUUUGAGACAUUAUGUCCCCUUAGGUGAUCCUAAGGACAUGUGAUCGUGAAAAUUAUGGCCAUAAUGAUUCCUUAAGUGGAAUUUAACAUAUGCUCUUGGAGGGAUAUAGUAUGUCAAUUGAUCACAUAAUAGGAGGAUCUAAGACUCAAGGAUUGUAGAAGUAAUCUUGAGAGGUUGAUAACAUUCAUUUUGUUAAAUUAUGGAUACCAAUUCAUGAGGAGCUUGCAUGCAAUUGUUAGUAGGUCACAGACUGAAGUUUUCUAUCUCGAUUUAAUAUCAUAAAGAUACUAAAUUGUAGUUUACUCUCUAUAGUUAGAUUUUGAGUCAACUUUAAGAUUGGAUUUUAAGGGAGCCAGUACUUCCCUAUGGAUCCUAGUGGUUCCCACUCAAACUCAUAUUCCUUGGUCAAAAAAUAUUUGAGGAAUAGUUGGAUUAUUUAUUUAUAUGUGUGUAUAAGAGCAUUUUGGUAAAUAUGGAAGGUUGCACAAGUACAUAUAAAUAAUCUUUUAAAUUUAGAUAAUUAAUUAAUUGAAACUCAAUAGAGCAAAUUAGUUAAUUAGGACCCAAUGAGUCAGAUUAAGUAACCUAAACGUAAGAUGAGCUCAAGUCACUCGAGCUAAGAGGUAAGCCUAUAUAAACUCCUUAAAGGGUUUAAGGCUUAGUACUUGUCAGCCAUUCAAUCUUCUACCUUAAUAUCUAUCCCCACAAAGAGGAUUCUAACACCCUUAUGUGUUAGGAUACAAGAAAGAGAGUUAUCAGGCAAAAUAUCAUGAGGUAUUUGAGAUCUUAAUUGACCUCUUCACCAAUUAGAUUUAAUUCCUUGAGCACUUAAAUCUAAUAUUCAUUGUUCUGAAUUCUCCCAUGACAUAGUUCUAGCAUUUCUACGAAGAUAGUGUCAUGCACCUAAUGAUCUAGGGCUUGAAGUUAGGUAAUCUAGAUGUUCCAACACAUGAGAAGUAUAAAUUUUUUAAUAAUGCUCUCUUAUCCAUACUUGUGAAAUAUGGAAAGCUACAGUGAAAUAACAGAUAAAGUUUAUUAUCAAGAACUCUAUUUGAGAAUUAAUUGAACUAUUGUUAAGACAUAAGACCUUAAGGAAUAAGUAGGUUUUUAAGGUCAAACUUUAGGCAAAUGAUGCAAGUUGUUAAACUUAACUCAUGAAGAAAGGAUACAACCAGAAUAAGUGUGUAGAGUAUAAAAAUAAAAAUAAAUAAAAAAAAAUCUCAUGAGAAGUGAGGUUUGCCUCAACUCUCCUUAUUCAAACCAUUAUCACAUCUUUGGAUUUGAAAUUAUAUCAAAUAAACAUUCAAAUCAUUUUUCUCAAUAGAGAACUAAAUAAGAAGAUCUAUAUAGAUCAAUUGACUGGUUUUAUGGCAACUAAAUAGAAAGUCAAAGUUAACAACUACAAAGGUCCAUUUAUAGCCUACAAUAAUCAUCUCAACAAUGGUAUAUUACACUAAUGGGUUUAUGAUGGUCUAAGAACACUAUUGCAUGUUUGUUAAACGGUGUAAGGGUAGAUUUUUUAUCCUUUUUUUUUUUUUUUUGUAUACAAAUGAAAUGUUGGUUAGGGAUGAUAAUGAGAUGGUUACCUCUAAAGUGUGGUGGUCGUCAACUUUUAAAAUGAACAACAUGCUUAAAGCAAACUAUGUUUUCAAAGUUAUGAUCCUAAUCAAUCAAUCAAGGAGACUUUUUGGUUUGUUUUACAAAUCAUAAACAAUGAAUAUUCUUGAAAAAAUUCUAUAUGUAAAAUUGAAAAUCUAUUAGCAUACAUAUACAGAAAGAUAAGACCUUAAGCUUUAACAUGUGUCGUAAGACUUUAGAUGAAUAGGAAAAGAUCACUCAAGGUUCCUAUAUGCUAGCAUUGUUAGUAGCUUAAAGUAUCCAAUGAUGUGUACAUGAACUAAUAUUUGUUAUAUAAUUAGGUUUGUAGCUUCCAAUUAGAUCUAAACCUUGCUUACAAAAAAGCAAUGGAUUGGAUGCUUUUCUACCUCAAAGUCACCAUAGGCUAUAUAAUUUUCUAUUGAGGAUUGAAUUUGGACAUGAUUAGCUAUAACAGUGAUAAUUGGGGUAGCAUCCUAAAUGAAACUAAAUCCACAUAUGGUUAUAAUUUUAUAUGUGCUCUAUGAUGUUAGCAUAUAUUGGUGAAAUAGAAAACAAUCAUGUAUAACAUUGUCUACCAUGCGUGGAGUUGGGAGUACCUUACUUGUUGUUUAGGAAAGUGACUAGUUUAUGAUGUUCAUACAUAUUUUUCACAACAUUGCUUGUUCUUUUGAGCAUACUACUAUUUAUUGUGAUAGCAUGGAAACUUUAGCCUAUGUCAAAGACCCCCNNNNNNNNNNNNNNNNNNNNNNNNNNNNNNNNNNNNNNNNNNNNNNNNNNNNNNNNNNNNNNNNNNNNNNNNNNNNNNNNNNNNNNNNNNNNNNNNNNNNCCUUGCUUACGAAAAACCAAUGAACUGGAGGAUUUCAUACCUAAAAGCCCCCAUAGGCUAUAUAAUUUGCUAUUGGGGAUGAAAUUGGGACUGGAUUAGCUACAACAAUGAAAAUUGGGGUGGCAUCCAAAAGGAACCAAAACCCACAUAGGGUUAAAAUUUUAUAUAUGCUCUAGGAUGUUAGCAUAUAUGGGUGAAAAAGAAAAAAAUCAUGUAAAAUAUUGUCUCCCAUCCAGGGAGUGGGGAGUACAUUAGUUGUCGUCUAGGAAAGUGACUAGUUUAUGAUGUUCAUACAUAUUUUUCUCAAUAUUGCUGGUUCUUUGGAGCGUACUACUAUUUAUGGGGAUGGCAGGGAAACUUUAGCCUAUGCCAAAGCCCCCCCCCCCCCAAGUAUCAUAGUUGAACCAAACACAUCAAUCUUAAAUGUUAGUUUAUAUGAGACAUGGUUAAAAAUCCUACCCUCACCCCCCUUGUUGACUAAGCUAAUACGUAAAGAUGUUUAUUAGGGUCAAGUUGAGAGUAUUGGAUUAUGUAGAUCAUGAUUAUGUGGAAGUUAAGUUGAGAGCAUUGGAUCAUGUAGAUUAUGAUUACAUAUUGUGUAUUUCAAUUAACCAUUAUACCUAUGAUUUAUUCAUUGUCCAAUCUUGUUUGAUGGUGACAUUUAAUUAUUUGUUUUACUUUAUUGACAUACACUUUCAUUACUUUGCACAACUGAAACAUAAUGAGUCCAAAACCACUUAGAUAGUGUGUUAGGUCAUUGAUAUUUAUAAGACUCCUUUUUGUAUCCAAUAAAACUUGCAUGUUAGUAGCGACCAAGUAUAGAUAGUCUUAUAGUCCACAUUUGUAAUGGAGUCAAUUGCCAAAUCUUGUUAAUGUAGUGCUUGAUUAAGUAAGCAUGUGCAAAACUUGAGUUCUUUGCUCGAUGCAAUUAAACUAAGAUUUGUACAAUAUAGAAGAUCUAAGGUACACUCAUAAUGAAGAUCUCCAUGUUAGCAUAUAUUUUCAUACUAUAUCUUCUUGGCAAUCAAACAAGAAUGAAUGAAUAUAUUCCUAGCUACUCCCUCAUCAUGUGCAUUAAUCUUAUUGGUGAUUAUAUAGUAUAACUUUUAUGCCCUUGUGAUUUUCAGUCAUAAGUUACAAGUAUGGUGUAGUUUGAAAUAUUUUUCUAGGGGGAUUCACCAUGUUUAACUCAAUGUGAAUAAAAGUGUUUAAGAUAUAACGAGACACCUUCUAGGGAUGAAUUACACUGGUUAAGAUGAAGUUUAGUUUGAUACUCUUGCACCUUUCUUAUCAAUGUGUUCGACAGUUGCAUAAUCCAUUAGUCAAUAUGAACAUGGAUGACAAUGAUAUAGUUGAGAAAAAUGCAUGACGUUAUUUUGCCUACUAUGCAUGAGUGGGAGACAAUGGAGUUUCUAUUUCAUGAGAUACUCUUAGUAGGGCUUCAUUAGCUAAAAGCUUGAGAGUAAGUUGCAUACUUAUCAGUUAAGAUUCCUCAUGGGAGAAAAGUUUAGUUAAGAUUCCUCUCAUGGGAGGAGGUUCACAUUUAGAUUUUGUGAGAAUCUAUAAGAGUUUUUUGUCUUUUUCAAUUCCAAUUCUAGUCCUUUUGCAUGUUUUGAAUUUAGUUUGUGGCAGUUGUUAAAUACUUCUACUUUAAUUUUUAGCAAUUAUAAUUUUUUAAAGCUUACUAUUUAGGUUUAGAUUUAUUACAUGCUUAUUAGAUAUCUUAAUUCCUAUUGUAUUCUCCUUGGUUAAUAAUCUUCCAAUUUGAUUGUGGAGUUCAAAGAUUUUUACCAAAAUAAGGAUCAGGGUUUUCAAAGUUAGGAAAAGUAUUUAAUAAAAUUAAUUUUUGAAUAAGUUUGCAAGCUAAAUCUUUCGAUUGAACCUAAUAAGUUUACAUACUAAAUCUCUCAUUUUCAGCCUUGGUUGUUUCCACUCUUUGCAAUUUAAUUAGUUUUUUUAAAUAUAUAUAUAUAUAUAUAUAUAAUUCAUUUUGUGUACCUAUAUGCUCAAGUUUUUGAGUAAUUAUGAGUUGUAUUGUUAUAUUUUGUAGAAUUUGACAAACUAAAAAUGCUUACCUUUGAACAAUCGAGUACAAUAGCACAUUUGUGUGGAUAGUUCAUGGCUACCAACUUGAUUCUCCAUGCCUCCUCUAUUAGGUUGACUAACAAAAUGGUUCAAUUUCACAGGAACACCUUAAGAAUAAAAAUGUCAAGAAAAGAGAAGGAAAAUUAUGUUUCGUCUAAUUUGACUGCAAGACUUAAACAAAAAAACAUAAUAAUAUAAUAGUUAUUAUAAUGAAUAUAAUAAAAAGAAAAUUUUUCAUGUUCUUCCCAAUAAUCAUAAAACCCCUUUCAAUGAAACUUUGUAAGCUCUACUAAUACAAAAUAAUGGUCCAUAUAGUAAAAGCUCAAUAAAUGAAUGUUUGAUAAAUUAAUAAUCUUAUAAAACAAAAUCUUCUAGUCUUAACUUAGACCAAUGUACUAAAUUAGCAAUCUCGUUAAAUACACAAGAUAAAAAUAUUUUCAAAAAUCUUUAAGGGCUCAAGAAAUAUAAACUAAUAAUUGAUGAAGUAGAAACAAAAAUUCGUAGUAUAGAAAAUAGAACUUCAUAAUAUAAUAUUAAGUAAUUUUUUAUAACUUUUAUUUUUCUAAAUUCACUUCUUUUAGAAUUAUCACAUAUUUGAAAUAGCUUUAUCUUUUACAACAUUAAGUUUUGAUGCCACAUCUUUUUUUAGGAGUCUUUUUAUCUUUUACAAUCAAUAACUAUUUUUUUUUCUUCAGUCUCUUAGGUUUCUGUGUAUUAACUUUUUACCAUGUGUAUUAUUUUUAAAUUUAUAAGUUAUACAUGUACUAAUAAAUAUUCAUUUAUCUAUAAAUCAAUAACCUCGUUAAGAUCAUAACUUUUCUUAGUCCCAAGAGUAUUAUUUUAUAAGAGUUUUUCUCUAUAUAGUUCCUUCAUUGUAGGAAUUUCUUUAGGUUAAUAUUACUAAAGUUGUAAUUUUAAAAGAACAUAUAUAAUGGAAAUUAAGAGAAAUUCGAAAUCUAUAAAUUAAUGUUUUAUAUCAUUCUUUUUUCCUAUGAAUGCUAAAGCCAUUGUCAAAUAAAAAGAGUAAAUAAAAUAAUUAAUCAAGUAAUUAGUUGAAAGCGAAAUAGGUGACUUAAAACUAUUGCUUUGGUACAUGGUUGUUUGAGGUGAAUAUAGUAGAUCAUAAGAAAUAAAAUCCUCUAACUAUGUUUAUUUGAUAGAAUAAAAAGGUGAGUGUGUGGUUGCUCCAUAGGAGAAGACCACAUGUUAACCAAAGAAUAAGUAACUAGAAAGCUUACACAAGUGUUAAAUGAUCAAUUUCUUGCCCAAGCACAUUAAUGAGAACUAAAUGUUGAAGGCCCAUGCCUCCAUGUGGGGAGACCUUAAUUGCUACCUUAAAAGGAAAGUUUAAAAGUGGUCAUAUCCUCUAUGCCAGGUUAGUAUUCCAAAAACUAAGAAAGUUAACCUUUGAGUUGAUGCUUAUUUGUUAGGUAGUUUCCUCAUUCUUCUUAAUAAAUUGACCUUUGAAGGCUCUAUGACUAGAGUGCUCACUUUAGAUUCCUUAUUAUUGUAAGGUCCUAACCAUCCAUUGAAGUAAGAAAGUGAACUAAUACUUGGAAAAAUGGUGUCAUCUAUGGUGAAGAUACAAAAAUUCAGCUCACCAAAAAAUCAUAGUAAAGCUACUAAAAAACACCGCACCCCCAGACAAGGACCUUCAUUUGAGUACUCCUUGAGGUCUACCCAAAUCGAAGACUUGACAUUGAAGAAAUGAAGUCAACUAAACUUAGUUCCAUGCAUGAUAAGGUUGAAAGCCUGCAUAAAAACCUAUAGAAAGCUUGCCUCUUUAUAAGAAUAAGCUGAACCUAAAAAGGAAGAAGACCUAUAAAAGGUAAUCAUAAAUAACAAAGAAAAAGAAGUUCUUCCCUCAUUUGAAAAAUCUUUCUUUGAAUGCAGAAACUUAUAUUUUUUUUUUUAUUAUCAAGAAACCUUCCUUUGUAUCCAAAAAUUGGUGGAAUAAAAAUUUUCAAUCCUAUAUGAAGAGUUUUAGCUUCUUCAUAUGGGAAUGCAUUAAAAGCCUUGAAGACAUUGUUUAGAUCUAUAGCAAUGGUUAGGCAAUAAAAGACUAUACAAUAGAGUCUUGGUAGGAAAAGGUAAUCAUGAUAAAAAUGAAGUGGAGCAAUGAGUGAGAGCAAACCAUUCAAUAGAUGGAAGACCUCACUAAAAGAAGUGAUUGACACAUUCAAGAAAAUGUUGUCUUCAGGGUAAGGGUAAACAAAUACCAAUGUGAUUUUGACCAGGAACUCUCAUUGGCAAGCACCAAUAAGAUGCAAGUUAAUGAAUAAUAGUUAAUUAGACCAACAUAUAGAUUAAAUUGGGAGAGAAGGGUGAAGGAAACCUUAAUUAAACUAACCAAACAAACCACCUUGCCAGAGGUCCCAAUGCUCUAAGGGCUUCUUACCACUAGAGCUACCACAAAAUGCAUAAUCUUAGUGAAUAAGGCGAUUGAGCCUAAGUCCCUUUAGGAGGAGGAGGAGGCCACAUGAGGGUUUUUCCUCCUUAAUUUUAAUUUCUUUCAAUGAAACUAAAGGCACUCUAGACAACUCAUGCAUUUAUAUGCAUAUGAUGAUCUUAGAGAAGGGAAGCGAUCAACUUUUAUGCAAAAUCUUCUCCUUCAUCCUCCAAUGACUAACUUUGUAUUGUUUUUAUCAACUUACCUUAGAGUUUGUUCCUGAUAUUGAGACCCUAAGGGCGAUGUCUACCUCCUAGAUCAUGCACUUAACAAGACAAAAGAAAAGCCGAAAAUAACCCAAGGUAGUUAUAGCUACCAUCCAUGGUGGAUCAUCUACUAGAUUUGAGCAACUAGACAAGGUAUCAAGAUGUUACAGAAGCAUAUGGCAAUUGAAGUAAAAGUCCUCACAUCCUUGCAUGAAGCAACUACCACUUGCCCAUUUGUCAUAUGCUUCUCUAAUAAAGACUUAAGAGGAGUCCAAACCUUACUGAAGAUCCAUUGGUUAUUACUUUAAGAAUUAUUGAAUACAACAUGCACCUAUUCUUAGUUGACCUAACAAGUUUAGUUAACUUGCUAAAUAUAUAAGCCCAUAUAUGAACAAAUGAAUAUGGACAAAGGAAAACUAGUGUCAAGUCUUGGGUCAUUAAUGGGACUAGACAAAGUCCUAUGUGGCUCAAUUGGGGAAGCUGCUCUAAUGGUUCCAAUUGGUUGUUGCCAUAUAAUGACACAAUUCUUUAUUAUGGAUAUCCUUUUCCCGACAAUGCCAUUAUGGGAUGACCAUGGAUAUACAACCUAAGAGGAACACUAUUCACAUACCAUCACACCAUUAAAUUCCUAACACUAUAAGGAAUAUGGGAAAUAUAUCGGGACUAGGUGGCAGCAUGAGUAUGCUACACCAUACCCCUUAAAGCGGUCAACAAGUGCAUCAAUUGGGACCUUUAGGAAGUUUAUAAAUCAAAAAUCAACUACAAAUUAGUAGGUGGCCCGAGAAAACAAUUAGAGAACCUAGGGAUUCAUUAUUCUAGAGCCCCUAAACCUAGGAGGUUCCUUCUAGUCCAUGUAAAAAAAAUGAUUUAAGAUGGCUACUAGAAAGAAAAACACAUCUUUUCUAGGAAACUAUAGGACAUUGUGGGCAUUGAUCCCCAAGUUACAUGUCAUCGACUCAACAUAAACCCUCGUGGUUAGCUCCUUAAAAACAUUAGGUUGUGAAAGAAAAGGUAUCUAGGCUCUUAGAUGCUAUAUUUGGUCAUUUAGGUCUUUUAACAACAAAUAGAAGUCAGUAUGCUAGUUUACAUUAAUAACAUGUUAGUAACAAGUAAGAAGAGGAAUGAGUACUUGAUUGACCUCCUAAGAACAUUUCAAACUCUUAGAAAGUACUAAAUGAAGCUAAAUCAGUGAAGUGCACCUUUAAUGUAGGGUAUGGAAAGUUCCUUAGGUACUUGGUUACAUACAAAGGAAUUGAAGCUAACCCAGACCAAAUAAAAUCAACUUUGGAGAUACCAAUGACCAAAAGGGCUAGAGAAGUCCAAAAGCUCACUAACAAGAUUGGUUCUUGAAAUAGAUUUAAAUAUUGGACAAAAAAUAUAUGCCAUCCUUUCUUCGACAUUAGCAAGAAGGGAAAAUGGACUAAAGGAACCAAAAAAUGCAACUAAGCCUAUGAAUCACUAAAGCAUUACAUGAUGCUAACCCUCAUUCUGGAUAAACCUUAGGAUAAGGAGGUCUUACAAGGUCUCAUUAGUAGUAGUAAGUAGAGUGUUAUCUCAAAAAAAAAAGGAGCAACCAAUGUACUAUGUCUAAAAGGCUCUCUUAGAUGUGGAAACCUAAGAUAUAUAUAAAUAGUGAAAAACAGGUGCUUGCCCUUUAGAUCGCCACAUUGAAACUUCAAUGUUACUUCCAAGCGCAUGUUAUUAAGGUAAGGACUAAGUGAUGAGAACUCAACCUUAAUACUUUAAUGGCUUUAAAGAGCCCACUUUAGUGUGUUUGAGGUACUAAAAAAUUAGCCCAAGGUUCUGUUUUUUUUAUAAUACCUUAAAAAAUUAUGUUUGAUGCAUUCUAUGACCAUUCUACAUGCUUUAAGAUGUAUUUUUUUUUUUGUUAGGAUAGAGUCCUUAAAAGCAUGAUAUGAUGUAAUAAAUUUGGAAUUCAUUAUUUAUUUAAUAAUGUUCUAGUUUCACUUUUAUCUAUCCUUAUUCCAUGUAUUGUACUUUAUGAGCAUUCUUGUCUACAUCUUUUGCAUUGUACAUAACUUAGGUGCAUUAGGAGUUGCACAGAAGAUCUAAGCCACGGGUUUCUUGAAAAUAGAUUACUUGUUCACAGUUGGUUCAUGGGCCUAGGCAAACCAUUAGAGGUUGCAAUACGCCACCUUCUAAUUGGAGGGAUGGUUGGUCUUGGCUAUUGGGAUGAGUUUUCCAUGGUAAGUGCACUAGUGUGUAUGGUUGCACAUUGAACGAGACCUAUGGUGAUUUAUGACUUAAGCCUAUCAAGUAGUCAUGACUCCACUGAGCUGCUUCAUUGUAUUAUCUCUCAACCUUGAGAGAAUAUUGAGUUUGUGCUGAAUUUAAUAGUGGCUUUGACUUACAAGUGAGGUCGUAAACUGAUCAUAUAUUGCCUAUGGAUUGGGUCACUAUUGAUGGAAGCCGAUUGCAAUAGGUAUUCUUAAUAAAAGCACCAUGAUAUCUCUUGGGAUUGAAACAGUGUGUCCCCUGGGUGAUCUUAAGGAGGUGUGUUCAUGGAAACUUUGGCUAUAGUAGUUCAUUAAGUGGAAUUUGACAUAGACUCUUUGAGAGCUAAGAUAUGUUAAUUGAACACACAAUAGGAAGAUCUGUAACUCAAGGAUGGUUGAGGUAGUCUUGAAAGGCUGAUAGCUUUCACCUUGUUAGACUACAGACACCAAUUCAUAGGGAGACUAAACACAAUGGACAGUAGGUCAUGGACCCGAGCACUUAGUGUCUUUGUUGUUAUUUACAUAAGAUACCGGAGUUCAGUUGAUUCUCUAUAGUGGGAUGUGGAAUCAACUUUAAAAUAGGACUAUGAGGGAGCCAGUAUUCCUAUAGGUCCUAGUGGUCCCCAUUAUGAGCUCAUAUACCUUGUUACAUGGGUAAUGAGGGUUGGAUUGACUCUAGGUUCACUUUUGUGCAAUAGGGCGUUUUGGUAAUUAUGCAAGGUUGUAUAGGAUUAAGUGAUCAAGGUCUCUGGAUUGGGCUAAUCGAUUAAUUAGUAGGCCUUAUUAGGUUAAUUAAUCAAUUAGAACUCAUUUUAGGUUAGAUUAAGUGACCCAAACCCAUGUGGGCUCAAGUCACUUAAGCUCACUUAGAAACCCUAUCAAUACCCCCUAGGGGUUAGGGUUUCCAUAACUUUUGUCUUCCAUCAUCCAGAAAGAUAGAGACCCAUAGCCUCCACCAUCUUUUCCUCCUUAUCAAAAGUGUGCCAAGAUCAAGGUCCAAGUCAUUGGGCAGAAGACUUUGGGUUUUUGAGACUUCUAUGAUUUCAAUUUUCAUCUUCACCAUGUGGAUUGGAUUCGAGAACACUUGAAUCUAAUGUAUGGUUUUUGGUAGCAUUUUCUGAAUCCUUUUAAAGUAUAAAAAUGCUAUUUUUCCGUUGUGCAUAGGAUUUAGAAAAAGCCUAUGAUAGUUAUGCAUGUUCCUAACUUGAUCCAGACUUGGGAAACAGAGAGAGAUUUGGGUUUUUCCCAUCAUUUUUGGUGCAAUAGAACCUUGUUAGGAACUCAUAGAGACAAAAAUGCCCAAGUAAGGAGGAAACACAGAUUGCACACCUAAAAGGUGUGCAAGACUUAAUCAUGCACUUAUUUCUUAGUGUAAAGCCACAUAGUGCACCUCCCAUGUAUACCUUAAAGACCAAACACACAAGAUCUCUCUAAUGCAUUGGACCAAAUUUCACACCCUAUUCAAGCAACCCAAUCUGCAAACCUCUUAAAUGCUUUAAGCCAAGAUGUUGUGCACCCCCUCACUUAAGUCAAUAGGAUGUGUAGUAGUGUAACCCUUUGAUGUCAUCUAAAUUACAAACCAUUCUUACCUCUAUAAUAGCUAAGUACUUAAUAAUUCUUCUAAUGAUUGGCUCACACACCAAAGUAGUAUGUUGUUCAUACCUCAAAGUCUUCAAUUAUACUACCAAAAUGUACCUAAGCUGAAUUACAUAGAGAAAAAAGGUGCAACUACCGACCAUAAGCUAACACAUCAAGAAUGAUGGUGGGUUGAUUGCAAUGACAAAGGACUUGACCCUUAGUAUAAGAAGAGACAAGUCCCGAGGAGGGGGUAACGUUUUUUGCCUAUAAAUGGAGGAUUGUGAAUAUACAAGUGGAAGCAAAUUAUAGAAAGUGAAAUUGUAGAUAAGUUUUUUCUUCUUGUAGGAACAGAAGUAGGAAUAAGAGUAACUUAAUGUAAUUUUAGUUUUUAAUUUUCCACUGUAAUCUUUUCUUUUCAUUAUAAAUGUUCCCUAAUUUCUAGUUUAAUGAAUUUUCUAGUCUUUUUAAUUAAUAUUACAUUUCAGUUUUUCAAUUUCAACUUACAAAUUUCCAUUUUUAGUUCUUUACUUAAUUUUUAACAUGCUUAGAUAACCUUUAACACUCUAAGGGGUGAGAGGAGCUCAAGUCUCCCAUAUCUUAGUUUAGCUCUCUAUUGGUUUAUCUGUGCAUUAGUUACAAGCAAUAUGAUCUCUAUUAGUAGUUAUAAUGACCAAAAGAAGAAACCAUGGAGAGAAAGUCUAUGUUGCAUUGGUUGUGAGCGUUGUAAGUCAAGCAACCUUGGAAGCAUACUUAGGCAUUGUUUUAAUGAUUCUUUCAACUAAGUACAGGCCUAUUGACAUGAAAAGAAUUUAUCUAAAUCAUUUGGUUAUAAGGAUAUUAAAAAAAGAAAAGAAAAAAGCAAUUAGAGGGAGAUGAACCUUAUUAAGGUGGUUCUUGUUCAUUUGAAGUAGGAAACCUUUUUGGUAUAAAUCCUUGCUUUGACCCUAAAUCGGAAAGCAUAAGUUCAAAGCCUUGUUGGUGAGUUACAUCUAAAAGUGGUGAUCCUAGUGAAUCUUUAGCUUUGAGGUUUUCCUUCCUUUAAUUUUCUAUCUUUUAAACUUUGUGUGUAUGUCUUUUUUAUUUAUAAAAUCAUUUUUCUAAUCUUUUAGCUAACAUUCACACCUCUAAAGCUAUUACCUUUGUUGCUACCAAUUUAAAGUUCCUCGUGGAGGCAACCUAACAAUUAUAAAACUAUUAUUUUUAUUUUUUAUUUUUGGUUAAGGAGUUCAAAGUUUCAAUGAAUGAUCUAGUUUAAUUUCUCUUUGUAAAACUUAACAGUUAAAUAAAUUUCCUAGUUUUGAUAAAAGAAAUGAAUUAGAGAAUGACAAACCAAAAAUUAGUGUCAUCACUAGGGAACUUUCAAUAUUGAUGACUCUAAAGGUAUUUUUGUGUUAUGCUUGUUGUUUUAGAAGCUUAACAAGUAUGUUUCACCCAUUCCCCACCUAUCUUUUAGUUGGAUUUUUUUUCUUUUUUUACAUAAUUUGUUUUCUUUGGAUUUUCUUUUUCUGCUCAGUUUUCAUUUUCAGUUGUUAAAUCCAACAUUUCAAGCAUUUUCUUUAAAGUGAUAUGAUGUAUUAGGGAAAUGAUUUUAAAGGAAGGGAACUAAGAGUGCAUUUGGGAGUGAUUCUACAAAGCAUUUCUAACAUUUCUAACACUUGAGUGAUAAAAAAUUUCAAGUAUUAUGAAUAUUAAAAGUGUUUCCUAGAAUCACUAUCAAAUAGGUUCUAAGUAAUCAAUUAGAAGAAACAAUUUUAGAGGAAGGACACUAAGUAAUCAACCAACCCCUAGUUAUCCUUUUGCUCAACACACCAGACCAUCACUGUCUCGUAUCUAUUUUCCAAAUUCAACUAUUGGUGGUACUAAUAGAAGUGUGAUGAAUGAGGGUUUUAACCCCCAAUAACUAGCCACCUAAGACCAUGAGGGAUAACCUACAGCCUAGUUCGGUCAAUGCUCCUUCUUGCUUGAUAUUUCUUUUUUUACGCUUUUCAAAUAAACAUUGAGCUUGAAAUGAUCCAAUUGCUAUCUCUAUUUUAUGGAAGGGAGGAUGAAAAUCCUUUUUCUUAUUUAAAAGAAUUUGAAGAGGUAUGGUCUAUUUUGGCAGAACCUACGUGAAAUCUGGAUCAUUCGAAACUCAAGGUUUUCUUUUUUCAUCAAAGAAAGAGGAUAAGCAUUGGUGAUAUAGCAUGAGACUUUAUAGAAUAAGUUCUAAGGAUAGUUUAUAAAAUAUUUUUUUCACAAAUUUAUUUUGGUAUAUAAAAUUGUUUCCUUUGAAAGGCAAAUUAAAAUUUUUUGUUUUAUAGAGAAUGAAACUUUUCAUCAUUGUUAUGAUAAAUUUAACUUCCUUACCAUAGUUUUGAAACCUCAAGGAUUGCUUCUUCUUUUUAAAGGGGACCAUCCCCCUAAAUGAAAUAAUUUGUCGAAAACAUGACUGGUGGGUACUUUAUACAGGAGAAACCAAAAGAAGCACUUAAGCAUUUAAAAUUGCUUGCUGAAAAAUCAAGGGUUUGGGACCCCUUAGUCCUCAAGUGCAUCUUCUAGAACGUGAAAGCCAACCCCAACAACAUAUAAUCUCUCAUCUCAUCUCUCAAUUUAUCAUUUCCCCUUAGAACAAGAGUUUUGACGAAGAUGAUUUUUGGAUGCUGUAAGAGGACGAAGCCACUGAAGUUAAGGAAAAGGAAACUGUGUACAUAGCAGUUGAAAGAAUUUGUUGAAAAAGAAUCAGUUGAAGAAGAGAACUUCCAACAGGUUGCAAAUAAGGUUAUAAGCUGCAUUUUUUCUUCUUUCCCAAAAAAAUAAAAAUAAAACAAAAAUAAAACAAAGAUAGAAAAAGAAACCCGUAAAGAGCAAGAAACAGAGGAGGAAUGGAGCAAUGUAUUGCAUGAUCACACCAACUUUAUUUGUCUCUCAAUUCCCUUCUCUUUACAACCCGAAGAGCCAUUGGCUAGCUAGAAGCUAGCCAAAAACUUGUAAAUAGCUUUCAUUUUUUAUUUUCUUUAUUAUUUUUGUUUCUAUUGCUUUGGCCAAUUUAGUGUGUAGGAGCACCAUCAUUGUGAAGCCUAUAAUAUUAUGUUCUCAGUCCACUCAACGCAUUUGGGUAACCUUUAUCUUCUCAUAAGAACUCAAGUAUAAAUUUCUCUAUACUCUAUUGGUUUUAUCAUGCUUCAGAGUAGGUGUAAAUUGUUAGCACCAGGAAGGUGCACUAAGUGUAGGACAUAUAGCAAUCAUUUCCCAUGGGAUGCCUACUUAUUCUUUUGUAUCAUUGUGCAAGCACGCCAUCCAUAAUAAAAAUCUUUAUUCUCUUAUGUAAACUUUUUGGAAGAAAAAUGUCUUCCCAAAUAAAACCAUUAUUGCUUAGAGACUUUUGUCCACCCCACCAUCGUAUCAAUUGAGGUGUGGGUAGGUAACCGAGAAGUCUUCUAAGUUUUAUAUAAAAGAAGUAAUUUUCACUACUUUUGCAUGCACUCAAACAAGAACACACACAAUAACGCAACAUGAAAACUCUAAAGAAUGGUAAAACCAAAACACUGAUCCUAAAUAAGAUAAGGAAGUGAGAUAAAAAUGAACAACCGAGCCAAUUUGUUGAAGUCAAGGUAACUAAAGUAGUCACUGCAAUACAGAUAUUCCUAUUCAAUACAUAGAGACAAGCUUAUAUGGCCUUGUAGGCGUCUCUCACCUUCCUAUUCAAUACAGAUAAAUUAAUCUGUACAAAUUGGAAAUGGAUAUCACCAUUAUCGAAAAACUAAAAAGACAAUAGAUUAUGAAAUGAAAAGGGGAAUCCACGUGGGUGGGUGGGUGGGUGAGAAUGAGAUGCCUGCUUUUCUAUGUGGCCAGAAGAAUCGAAUGAACAGGCUUGUUUAUUACAUCAUGGAAGUGGGAGAAAAAAUAUUCAUUUAUGAUGAUGGUUGUGUUUGCCAACUUCUUUAGGAAAGCCACCACUACUGCUUCCUCAGAGACAUUACAAGUCAACGAAGAUGAGGUUGCAGUGGCAGUGGGGAAAACCAGUGAAAGUCCCACUCAACUAACUCGCACAAUGGACCAAGAAGAGUGUUCCAUUACCACAUAUAUCAGUAGACAACUCCAAUUUUUUUUCUUUUGAUAUUAAUAGCCAAUCAAGCCACCAAUAUGCGACAUUGGUUUUGCUCAACUACAAUGUUCUUGGGCUUAUAACUCACCAAGUGGGGAAAAUUUGUUGAAGUCAAGGUGACUAAAGUAGUCACUGCAAUAGCCACAAUACUAAAAUAAUACAACAAAGCAUUCAGUGGAAUGAGCAUUUGGACAGAAAGGGAUCACAUUAAAUUUAAAAGCAUUGACCACAUCUUCAAUUAUUAUUACUUUAUCUUUGGGAUGAUAUCACCAUAUAAAGAGCAUUUGAAGCUAACAAUGGACGAUAUCAGCAACUUUUCUGGGGAAAAUGGAGAUUUUUUUUUUUUUUUUUUAAAUUCCUCAUGUAUUUUUCUUACAUUUUUAUAUUAUCCAAAGACAGAAAAUUAAUUAGUCCUUUCAAGUUUUUUUUUUCUUUUUUAUUUAUUGGACAGAGCUAAACAGGAUUAACAUAAAAGAAAAUAACUUGACUUAUAAACAAAAGCAAGGGAGAUGCAAUGGCAAACACAAAGCAAUUUAGAAGGGGCAAGCGAGUAAAGAAACUAACAGUGAUAUAUCAUGAGUUGCCAUAAUUUGAAGCAACUUCCACUUCGGAAAGCCCAAGGCCUUUUAGCCAAUACAGUCAAAAGGGAAAAAUCCUCAUCAGAAUCAUUUGCAUCAUCGUGGCGGGCGGAAUCGAAAUGGCAUGUGGCAAGGUCAGGAUAACGUUUAACCAGAUACAGUGCUACAUCUGCAUAUUAUAAAAUUGUACAUGGGAAGACGACAGUAAUUCAUAUCAAGAAAGUAGAUAGGGGAUAGUAAAUAUAGCUUACCAUGAAACCCCACCAUUAGAGCUCUGCGCAAAAGUUCGAAUCCAGGCUUGUCUGCGAAAGGACUUGGAUCUACAUCAUCUCUGGUGACGGUUAAUAAAUAUAAAGUCAGCUCUUUAUGAGCACACCUAAGAGCGCUGUGAAGAGGCACUAAAAGUUGUAGUUGGCAGAUAUUGGGCAAGCUUGGGUUUUUGUUCACUAACAACUUGACUGCUUUUAUAUUGCCAGCACUUACAGCGUUGAAAAGGGCAGUGGCGCCAUCAGAAUCCUGCAGAGCCAGUUUAUCACUUGGCAUAAACUCAACCAACUUCUUCACGAAACCCAUUCUGGCCUCUCCUAACCCAACUGCUAUGUGAAGCACUGGGGAAUCAUCUGUUCCGAUCGGGGCGGACAAUGAUUGUGGAUCAUCCUCCAAUAUUUUUGAAGCACUUUCCCAGUCACCAUUGAGCACAGCUUGGUACAGUUCCAAGUAAUAGAUUAAACCUGCUUCAUAGAAUUCUGCAGUCACAAAGCCAAAAGAUGUAUAGGUCAGCCUAGAUUUCCCUGAUAUGUAUAUUUCUUCAACGUUCACAACAUCCUAAUACUAAAAUUAUUUUUUUAAAAAUAAAUCAUUUAAGUUAUAUUUGGUUCUUAGAAAAUUUGACAAAAAUUACAAGGAAAAGAAAGUAAAUUGAAAAAAUUGAAGGUAAGAAAAAGUGAAAUAAAAUACAUCUAAAAUCAAUAAAUUAAUUAUUUUUAUAUGCUACUCAUUUCACUUAUUUUAACUAUUCAAUAUAAAAAUUAAAUAAUUUAAAAUUUCAUAAAUUUAUAACUAAUUUAAUUAUAUUUGAUUUUCUUAAAUAUUUUUGUGGAUACAACCAAAUAUGAUAAAAUCAUUUUCCUUAAUAUCGUUUCUUUGCUAAUUAUUUUCUUGGACUUCUUUGUUUACCUCUAAUCAACAUCUUUAUAUCUUUCAAUAAUAGUUUGAACCUCCAAUAAACUAAUUUCAAUAAAAUUUAAUUUAGUUUCAUUUGUUUUUUUAACAGCAGGUUGUAAAACACUUCUACUUGUAUGCUAAUUAUGCCCAAAAGUUGCAGAAGGACCUCAAGCGGAAAUGGACAUGAACAUAGUUUUUAGCAUCUUACCGGAGCUGCUAAUCCUUUGCAAAGAUGAAGGGGAAGAGACUGGAGCAUAUUCAUCAGCAUUCUGCGCCAUAUUGAUGCUACUACGGUUAGGAUUGUUUGGGCUGUCAUCAAUUACCGAGAUGGUAAUGAAGAGGAAGCCACUGCAGUAAACUCCUCAUCAUGCUCAGCAAUGUCGAUGUUACUGUUUUUAGGACUGUUUGCGCUGUUGUCAUUUCUAGGACGUAGUGGAGAAGAAGAAGCCAUUACAACAAAUUCCUUAUCGUUCUAUAGUAUUGCCAUGUUUAGCGAAGUUAUUCUAAUGUGUAACAGAAAACCUAAACAAAAUCUGCAGUUGACAAAGGUCAAAAUUAACUUACCUCGCAGAUGGAAGAUUAUAUUUAACUAUAUCAAGGCAGAGAAGAUACUCUCAUCCAAAGAGAAACAACAGCAGCCCUUUUUCCCACUGUCUUCAAAAGAUACAGGAACCAUUGAAGCAUAAGAGGUGCAAUGAUAAAGUCUUCCAAGUCAACUUUAUUUAGUUGAGUAUUGGGUAAGGAGUAGAUAGCGUUGAAAAGUUUUGAUAAUUUUUGUUGCGGAGAAAACGAUGUUUUAUAUCCCUUUAUUUCUAUCAGAUAUUACAAUUUUUAUCACUUGUUUAUAAAAUAAAAGAUAACGAAAUAUUUAACAUUCUUCAAUAGUAAAAACAUGUAUCGAAUAUAAAAAAAUUCUCACAAGUGCUGCAAUUAACAUUUUUUUUCUUCAAUAAUAUGUAUAAUAUAUACGAUAUGAUGUAUUAUUUCUACUUUAAGUUUUGUUUGGAUUUAUUUUUUAUUUUUUAUAUAUAAAAAUAAAUUAUAUUUUAAAAUUUAUAUGUGAUAUAAAAAAGUUAUUAUUUUUAAGUAUUUGAUAUAAUACAUUUAUAUAUUUAUUAAAUUAUGACAAUAAAUGAAAAUAAAGUGGAGAGGACGAUGUAGGUUGGCAAUCCUUUCUGAAGUGAAUGCAGUGCAACAAAAGAGAAGGUACCAUUAACUUGAAUGCGAGAAGGGUGAUUGAUCGAUCAAUCUGUACGUGUCCUUCUUGAAAGGGACCAGAUUCUAUGGGGUAGGUUAAGGAUUAAUGUGGGUGCCUGUAGCAUGAAAGCGGAAGGAAUUAAUCCUGUGCACCACACAUUGCUAUGAUCGUUUGCAAUAACCAAUUAUAUAAAAUCUAUUGAAAUAUUUUAUAUAAUUAACUUUUUGGAAUUUUUUUAUCAAGUUGUAAAAUAAAGAAAAUUUAGGAAAAAAUAUUUUUGUAAAAUGAUAAAAUUUUACAAAAAUGAUUAAUGUGGGUGCCUAUAGCAUGAAAGUGAAAGGAAUUUUGGGUCACCAAGGCGCCUCCCAUAAAAAUAUAUCUUUUAGGUCCUUUUAAAACCUAUAUUUAGUAUCCUCUUUCCCAUCACGUGAGUGUCCUGUCAUCCUCCCAUAAAAAUAAAAUUUUAAUUAAUAAUUAAAAUUUUAAUUUUAAAAUAAAAUUAUAAUUAUUAAUUAAGAUUUCGAUUAAAAAAUAAAGCACUAAUCGAUAAUUAAAACUUUAUUUUUAGCUAAAAUUUUAAUUGAUAAAUAAAAUUUUGGGUUAAUAGUUGUUCGUAAAAAAGAUUUAUAUUAUUUCUACGGGCAAGUUGAACAUAGACUUAAAUUUCACUUAGAAUGAUAAACAUUCAUGGAGCCAAAAUGUAAAUCCGCACUCUUGGACAUAAUAUUAUUGAGCCAUUGGUUACCGAAAAUUACUCUAAGCUAUCAUACCCACCUUUUAGGCCAAUAAAAUUAAGAACCAUGGCAAGGAAAUUUGAAAAAAAAAAAAAACAAUUCUCCAGGUUUAGCAUGGUUGCCGAGGGAAUUAAUCUUUUGCACCACACAUUGCUAUGAUCGUUUGCAAUAACCAAUUAUAUAAAAUCUGUUGAAAUAUUUUAUAUAAUUAACUUUUUGGAAUUUUUUUUAUCAAGUAGUAAAAUAAAGAAAAUUUAGGAAAAAUAUUUUUGUAAAAAGAUAAAAUUUUACAAAAAUGAUAAAUUUUUGUAAAAUAUAGAAAAGGAUACAAGGCUAUUAAUUCAUAAUUGUAUGAUAACCUUUUAGUAUUUCAAUCUUUGAAUGUUUUUGGAGAUUAUUUCCAUAAAUUCCACAUUCCAAAAACAAUGAUAACCUUUACACAAUAUUAUUGUUAUUUAAAGUGGGAAAAAAAUUAUAAAAAAAAAUUUCAAAAAAAUUAGAGAUUACAAAGAAUACAAGGAUACGAAGAAUGUGAGGAUUAUCAUAUUUUUUGUACCCUCCUCACAUUCUUCAUGCCCCAAACCAUUUGAAUAUUUUAAUCUUUUAAUUUUUCCAAACAUUAUUUACUUCAAUUGCAAGUGUAAUUAGCGUUUUUACACAAUACAUUGUCAAAUGAAGUAAAAAAGAAAUUCAAAAUUUAAAUUUUCAAAAAAUUUACAGGGUACAAAAAUGUGAAGAGGCUACGAAGAAUGUGAAGAGCCUCACAUUUCUCGUACCAUCCUCACAUUCUUCGUACCUAUUGUAAUUUUUAAAUUUUUUAAUCUUUCAAUUUUUUCAAACAUUAUUUGCAUCAAUUUCAAGUGUAAUUAAUAUUUUUACCCAAUAUUAUCAUCAAGUGAUGUGAAGAAAAACUUAAAAUUAAAAAAUUUUAGAGGGUACAAAAAAUAUGAGAGAGGAGGGUGUGAGAAAUGUAAAAAGGAUAUGAGAAAUGUGAGGGUACAAGAAAUGAAAAAAAAGAAAGAAAAAAAAAAUCUCAUACCCUUCUCACUUUCUUCGUACCUCUACAAAUUUUUUAAUAUUUUAAUCUUUUAAAUUUUUUGAACAUUAUUUGCUUCAAUUUCAAGUGUAAUUAGUCUUUUUACAAUAUAUUAUUGUCAAGUCAAUUAAAAAAAAUUAAAACAAUUUAGAGGGUACAACAAAUGUGAGGAGGGUGUGAGAAAUGUGAAUAGGGUAUGAGAAAUAUAAGGGUACAAGAAAUGAAAAAAAAUAAUUUCUCAUACCCUCUUCACAUUUCUUGUACUCUCCUCACAUUCUUUGUAUUUUCACCAAUUUUUUAAUAUUUUAAAUUUUUUUCAAAUAUUAUUUGCUUCAAUUUCAACAAAAUUCUCAUAUUUUUUGUACCCCACCAAUUUUGUAAUAUUUUAAUAUUUUUAACAUUAUUUGUUUCAAUUUCAAGUGUAUUUAGUCUUUUUACAUGCACAAUAUUAUUGUCGAGUGAUAUGAAAAAGAAAAACAUAAAAUUAAAAUUUUCAAAAAAAUUAAAGGGUACAAAAAAUGUGAGAAGGGUAUAAAGAAUGUGAAGAGGGUGCAUGAAAUGUGAGGGUAUAAGAAAUGAAAAAACAAAAUUCUCAUCCCCUCCUCAUAUUCUUUGUACCUUCACCAACUUUUGAAUAUUUUAAUCUUUUAAUUUUAACUCAUCUAGCCCUUAUAAAUCAUGUCAUUAAGGAAUAUGAGCUCAAAGUAAGGACCAUUGGGAUCCAUAGGAGUAUUGGCUCCCUUAGAAUCAAAUUCUUAAAUUGAUUCAACAUCCCACUAUAGAGAGUCAACUAUACUUUAAUAUCCUAUGUAUAUUACAACAAGACACCAAGUACUUGGGUUUAUGAUCUACUAUCUAUUGCAUGCAAACUCCCCAUGAACCGAUGUUCAUAAUCUAAUAAGGUAGUGUUGUCACCUAUCAAGAUUACCCCUCAAAUCCUUUAGUUACAGAUCACACUUUUUAUGUGAUCAAAUGACAUACUCUACCUCUAAGAAGCAUAUGUCAAAUUCCACUGAAGGAAUUACUAUGGCCACUGAUGCGACUCAUGGUAGCUUAGCUUUAAAGGCGUAUCAACAAAAUUUAUACCUUAAAUACUAUUACUAAAGUAGCCAAGCUACUAUAGCAUAGUGGUUCUAGGAUCGUUCACUGGGAAGGGUUUUCGCAAACACAAUUGAUAUUCAAAUUAGGAAAAUAGGUGAUUUUCUUAUGGAUGUUAGCUUUAAAAGAGAAUGUAAAUGUUUUAGAAAGAUUUAAACUAAUCUAAGCUAACAUUAAAGACUAAAAUGAAAGGGUGUAAAAACAAGUUUCUCAAAGAUAGGAUAGCUAUGCUCUGGCUCUUAUGCAAAUUGGAAAUCUCAGGAUAGGCUCCUCGCGUUGGGGUUGCAACUAUGGUGAUGCUUGCUUCCCGAACCGGUAUGGAUUUAGCAAAUCAAGUUUUAAUCCUUUAAAAUAGCAAAACAGAUGGUAGUGAAUUUCAUAAAUGGUUAUUCACCUUAGACUUCCUUUGAAUGGCUCGUAAGAGAUAACUAAUGGUCUAAAGCCAAAAGCUUACCAAAUAUUGGCAACUCAAAGUCAUUCCNNNNNNNNNNNNNNNNNNNNNNNNNNNNNNNNNNNNNNNNNNNNNNNNNNNNNNNNNNNNNNNNNNNNNNNNNNNNNNNNNNNNNNNNNNNNNNNNNNNNUGCUCUGGCUCUUAUGCAAAUUGGAAAUCUCAGGAUAGGCUCCUCGCGUUGGGGUUGCAACUAUGGUGAUGCUUGCUUCCCGAACCGGUAUGGAUUUAGCAAAUCAAGUUUUAAUCCUUUAAAAUAGCAAAACAGAUGGUAGUGAAUUUCAUAAAUGGUUAUUCACCUUAGACUUCCUUUGAAUGGCUCGUAAGAGAUAACUAAUGGUCUAAAGCCAAAAGCUUACCAAAUAUUGGCAACUCAAAGUCAUUCCAGGUGAUAAACUCACCUUUCAAUGGCCAUUGAAAUUGGUUCUAACUGAUUAAUGCAAAACUUGGAAUUGAAAACCUCACCUUCCAAUAGCUCGUAGGAGAUAACUAAUGGAUAGAAAUCCAAAAGCUUAUCAAGUAUUGGCCGUUGGAAGUUGUCAAAAGGAAAUAAAAACCAAACUUUGCAUUAAUGAACCAUUAAUGAAAAACCAUCUACCUUACCUUCCGGGUGCGAGAAAUUUCCAUGGGAUUGCAUCCAAGCCAUCACAUAACAUCCAUACUUUGAGAAACUAAAAGUUUUAGCCAAUCAUCCUUUGAGGAAAAGCCCUCAGAGGCUGUUUGGCUACUAAGAAAAUAGAAAUGGGGAAGAACAGGAGAAGAGAGAAAAACAGAGCAAGGCUCUGUAUAUUCUAUAUAUUGAUCGAUAUCUAUUACAAUGGAUGCAAGGGAAUAUAUAUAGAGAAGUUUUUCCAACCUUCCUAACUAAGAAAUUACAUGAGUGGUGGAUUACAAGGAGAAGAAUGGAAAUUUAUACAAAAAUAUCCAAAAGAAAAGAUCUCGUGUGGAGUCGGCAGAAACAGGGGAAAAUUCGCACCAUGCAAGGGGGUGUGCGAAUUUGGAAGGUGUUGUGCGAAAAUUUCGCACACCCCUGGAGCAGUUGUCUUCCAAAGGCCAUAUCUUCCUCAUUUCAGCUCCAAAUUGUACACGGUUUGAAGCGUUGGAUUCUUGACUUCCUGAGCUUUGAAACGGUAUAUAGAAUGUAAAAAAUGGACUUCGGGAAGUGCUCCAAAAGUGCCAAAGAAGACUGCAGCUGCUGUCCUCUGUUUUCCUCCUUGCUUCUUUUUGCUUCUCUUUGCUUCUCUCCAUUGUUCUUUCCUUGCAUACUUUGAACGAAUUUGGCAAAGGGCUAUGGAGCUCCAAAGCUUGGUUCUUCAUGAAUUUGAGCUUCCAAAAGCUUUGCCAUAACUUGUCCAAGUAGCUCCUCUAUCAUUUGGCAUGCUUGAAUUGAUUCAUAAGCUGAUAUAAACAUGUAAACUUGCCACAAAAUGGUUAAAACCAAUUACUAAGGACCUUAAUGAAUUAAUUGGGUUAAAUGAAUAUGAUUACUACUCAAAGGUGCUUAAAACCAUUAUAAUUAGGUCUACAAAAUAGCACUUUUUGGUAGUAAUCAGCCACUGAUUUCAUGAUCACAUGCCCUCUGGAUCACCUAAUGGGACAUAUUGUCUCAAUCCUAUGAGAUAUCAUGGUGCCUCUAUUAAGAAUACCUAUUGUCGUCAGCUUCCAUCAACAGUGACCCAAUUCAUAGGGAUAUAUGACCAUUUUAGUCACUCAUAGGUUGAAGUAUCUAUUAAUUUUGGCAUAGACUCAAUAUCCUCUAAGGUUGAGAGUCUAUACAGUAUAGUAGUUUAGUGAAUCAUGACAAUUGAUAGCCUUGCAUCAUGAUUCACCGCAGGUUCUAUUUAGUAUGCAUCACAUACACUAGUACUCUUCAUUGGAAACUCAUCCCAAUGGUCAAGACCAAUCAUCCCUCUAAUUAGGAGGUGGUGCACUAUAGUUUAUACUAGAUUGCCUAAAUCCAUGAACCAACUGUGGACAACUUAUCUACUUACAAGGAAUCCAUGACUUAUACUUCUAUGCAACUCCUAAUACACCCAAUCAUGUACAAUGUAAGAAACAUGGGUUGAAUGCUUAAAUCAAUGUCAAUACACUUGAGGGAUAACAAGGGGAUAGUUAAGUCUAACUUCGUUAUAUCAUGUCUUGCUUAGUUAAGUCUAACUUUGUUACAUCAUGUCUUGCUUAGUUAAAUCUAACUUUAUUACAUCAUGUCUUGCUUUUAGGGCUCAAUCCAAACAAACUCCUACUAGCCCCAAAAGUAUACUGGGUACUAUAGAAAAAAUCUAUUCUACAGUCACGUCACCUUUCUAUACUAUCCCACAACAAGGUAUCACUUGUUUUCUAUAUGUUCUCUCUUAUAGUGGUACUUUAGUUAUUUGGACUAUGCCACCGUCCUAUAUAACAAUAUCUUAGGCGAUAUAGCCAAUGGAAAUACCCAUAAGCUAAAAGGCUUCCUUUGUUGCUAAAGAAGUAACAAAAACCACUUAGAGUGUACACAUUCCCAGAGGUAGACUUGCGAGAGUCCUCAUUAGACUGAAAGUCCAAUUUCCCAGUACAAGGACUCACAAACAUAUAAUCCUUCAUUCUCUAAGGAUACUAGAGUAUAUGUUUGACAUUCGCUCAAAGCUUUAAUCAAGAAGUGAACUAAUAUUCACUCAUUAUUCUUAAGACAAAGCAAAUAUUUGGUUUAACACAUAGCAUUGUAUGCUUAAGGCUAUCCAUUGUAGAGGCCUUGGAUACCACCUUAAUAUGAUCUCUCUCCAAAAAUGUCCAAGGACAUUGAUCCUAAGAAAGAUAGCUCCAAAUCUAAAGAGUAACAAUCCCUUCUUGGAGUUUUACAUCAUAUACUUAACCAAAUGCUCAUCAAUGUAGAUGACAUGGCAUAAUUUUUCCUAUUCCUACAAUACUAAAAGACCUUAACCCUAAGAAUAUAUUGUGCAUUCCUCUAAAUUUUUAUCUAGAACUGAGUAAACAACUAGAUCUUGACAGAUGACAAUAUCCUUACAUCAUAUCCAAUGAGUAGAUUAUCAUCCACCUAUAAGAUCUUAGAGCAUUACUACACUUUCCUGUGCUUUCAUAUACACACAAGGCCCAUUGUUAUGAAAAUGUUUGGUUGUUAUAUCUCAUAAACGAGACACACUGCAAUAGAUAAGCGUAAUCUAAUAGAUUUGAGUAUGAUCACUGUUGAAAAGGUUUUCCAUAGUUGAAACAAAGUCUCAAACUAUAACCUUUAGCUAUAGUCUUAGCCACAUAAAACUCAAGCUUUCCAUCUACUUCUAUGUUCCUCUUAUGGACCAACUUACACCUAUGAGUUUUAUCCCUUUAGGUGCUUCUAUAGGAACCCAAACUAUUUUAGAAUACAAAGAUUCCAACUACCUCUUUAUAGCUCAUUACCUUAAGUGAGCAUAAACACUGCUCAAUGCUUCAUCAUAAUCUAUGAUAUAUAAACUUCCAUUACGAUGAGGCGUUGGUGUACUAGAAAUCAUAGAAACGGUAUGCCUUUAGCCCUCUAGAUCCUAAGAAUCCUAUGCAAUGUGGGACUAUCUUCUAAUUUAUCCUUCAAUCUAUAUCAUUCUUUAUCUUAUUCCUUAUCAUAUAGUUUUCAUAAAAAAAUUUGAUAUUUGUGUUAGCAAAUAUCUUUUAAUGAUCCUAACUAUAAAGGUAGUAACCCAAAAAUGCUCUUAUAUAUCCUAUAAACUGAUAUACCUCUUAAGAAAAAGGGUAACCACCUUUUUAAAAAGUAGUGAGUAAAAUAUACUUGAUACAUACCUUCAACCUUUUGCAUGUUUUACAUUUUGGUAUCUUAUAUUUGAAAUCCAUCAUUUUACCCAUUCAAACUUAUUAGAAAGCAACACUUCAAUAUCAUUUGCAAACCCUUUAUAAAUUAUAAAAAAUAUUUUUUAUUUUUAUUUUUUUUCCACAUUCUUGUUUGAACAUUGGUUUGAAUUUAGGUAAAACCAAAUUUGAAUUGAUAGCCUUAGGUAGUAUUUCCCAAACAUAUUUAUUUUAUUAUUUAUUAUCUAACCCUUCAUGUCUUGCAGAAGCACUUUACAAGUUAUCUAUGCUAUCCAGGUAUGCCCCCUAUCACCUACCUUCUAAAUUUUGUGAACAUGCUUGUCACUAUGAACCGCACCUAUGUUUGAUAGUGCAUGGGUGUCUUGCUAUAUUGUUUCAUUGUUCAAUUAUUUUUUAUAAACCGCAUGCUAGAUGAUAUGCUAUUUCAACUAACUUUGAUGUCUUGUGAUAGUGCUUAAGAAGCAAUCUAGGUAUGCACCCUAAAUCUUCUUUAAAAAAUUUGUGAUUGGUUCUUUUGUUUAGCAUGCUAUUUUUUAAAAUCACCUUAGUCAACCUAGGUACCCUCAAUCAACCAAUUAAUUUUCCCAAUCCCCUCAACUUAGCUAGUAGAGACCUUUUUAGGGCUUAGAUGGGUGCUACCUCUUAGAGGUAUCUUCCCAAUAGGUAACCUGAUCCCCGAACCUAGACUCAGGUUUUUCAAAGGUAUGCUUUUCCAAAAACUAUGGAGUCACUUCUUUAGGGUUUUGUUUCUUAUUUUAUUUUCCUUUUUAAAAUAAAAUAAAAUAAGUGGUGACUUCGACUUUUCCAAAAUUAAUUUUUUUCACCAAUAAAAGCGAGUCUCGUUGAUUGAGUGGGAGCGCAUGUGAAAAAUACGAGUCCACACUACGACUUUUGUAGUACUCCGGGUAUCGUCCUCAUGGACUAGCUUAUGGAAAUUGUCAAUACUAAAAUAAAUGAAUUGCUUUCGUUUAAAUCCUAAAGUGAAAAACACUAUGAGAAUAAUGUCAAACUAAGUAAAAGAAAAUAAAUUAAUAAAAAAAUGGAUAUUUAUUUUAAAUUCGAUUGAUUCAAGUUUGGGGUUUUCCACAAUCCAACAUAGGGUAUAGAAAUAGAAAUUAGAGAAAACAAGGGUCUUUUAAGUAAUAUGAUCUUAGGGUUUUGGGAUCCUUGGCCGCUCAUGAUCAAGUUGAGUUCUAUAACACAAAAUUGCAUCCGAAACUUAAUUUUUCCUUUUUAAAACAAAUUCCUAAAACCAUCAAAUGAAUGAUAUUGAUUACUAGUUUAAGAUUUGGCUUUUUAACCCUUCCUACUCCUUAUAGCUUUGUUUUGGGGUAAAUAACGAUAGAGAAGACGAGGAUAACUAAUGAUGAAAAUUUACCAAGAAUCACUAGUAUUGGGUAAUAACCUACCGUAUCAUUCCCUAAACUAACUCACAAGAAUAGGAUAAAAAAAUGAUAAAUUUUCACCCAACCAAUAAUUAAUCUCAUUGUUAUAAUAAUUUUACCCAUUGUCCCUAUAGGUUUCCUAACCAUUAGGUUUUCAUGCUUUAAGCCCCAAGUUGGCUCUUAACCUCUCAUGGGGGUGAUGUCACAUUCACAAUCCAUAAUAGGGUAAAAAUCCAUAAUUUGAAUCAAAAGAGCAUAAAACAAUAUGUUUAAUAAGGAAGAAAAAGAAAUCAAACCAAAGUUCCCGUCUUCUUCCACCUUCAAUGUCAAACUUUCUGGAAAAAAAAUAAAUCCAAGAUCUCUAAAGCCUAGAAGUAAGAGAGUUUAGAUAAUAACAUCAAUUACCUAAUCUGUGGCACACUCUCAUUGGCCACUUAUUACAAAAAUAAUUACCUAAAAAUAAUUAAAAAUAAUAAUAAAAUGGUGAUUUCUAGUCGUGUGGGGUCCAUUUAAGGUUGAUGGAGUGCCUUAGAUGCAAUUCCCUAGGUAGAGGAGGUGAAACAUCAAAGUGGCAGUGGGUGAAUUUGAAAUUGGUGUCAUUUCGAUGUGGAUUUCAAAUUCAUAAGUUGAAUUUCGAAAUCAUUUUGAAAUGACCCUUAAGCUUUGUGCAUUUGUUUUCAAAUGGCCAUAACUUCUUCAUUUUAGCUUUGAUUUGCACAUUGUUUGAAGUGUUGGACUCUUGACCUCCCAAGCUUUGAAAAAUAUGUGUAUGUAUAAAAUGGACUCUGAGAAAUGCUCCAAAUUUGUCCUCAAAGUCAAACUAUAUAUUACUAUUAGAUUUUGAGUUCUAAAUUUCCAUGCAACUGAAUCUUGCUUCAUGCCUCAUUUCCUAUGUUUUCUUGCCCCUUUUCUUACUCCAUUAUGGUCAUUUCUCAUCUUCUAAACUCAUGAUAUCCUCAUCUUGCCUUUCCUCAUGAUCCAUGAGUCCCGACUCACUUAUUUCCUCAUUUAACCCUUUCUUAAUCUUUCAAAAUCUAAAGUAAUUCAACUGGCACCCUUUUCUUCCCUUGAACUUGAGAUAAGUCUCCAAAGUACAAAUUAAACUCAUGGCUAGAGCCUUAGCAUUGAUUUAGGUCAAGUAGGGUGCUUUGAAUGUCCUUUGGUGCACAAAUCAUAUCGAAUAUGUGCCAUUAGAGCACACAUUUUGGUUCCAAUCAUCCCCCUCAACUAAACUUUGCUAAUCCCUAGCAAAUGAAAAGAGUAAAGAAAAAAGUUAAAAAUAUGUAAUGAGAUUCAUGAAACCAUAUUGACUCAACGUAGCAUGUUUCACACAAAAGAUACCCAAGUAGUCAAAUUUCCUAGAAUUAAGCAAAAUGAAACAAGAUAUGCAAUUUCUUAGUUUUCUCACCUUAUCUUCAUAUACUUAAAUGUGCAUCCAUGUUUAACAUUCCCCUUAGUGUCUCUUGAUUUUCCCAUGAUUGGUUCUUUCCACCUAAACCUCAUGUGCUUAAUUUUGGUGUCCCCUCAUAGUAUUUUUCUUAAGACUUUUCUUAAACUCAAACUUCAUCAUUCUUUAAGUUAAAGAGGGAGGAAAAUUUAUUUUGAUUUUUCUUUCUUAGUUUAGGAAAUCUCCUUCUAUAUGGCUUAAUAGGGAUCCAUCGGCAACUCCCAAGUUUUCACCCAAGGUACCAGGUAUUGAGAACCUUUAUAGGCCACUUACCUUUCAAGAAUCACCCUAGCUCAAGGUAGAACAAUGUUGAAUUUCCCAAACACUUAUUUAUUUAUUUAUUUAUUUUUUUCAAAACUGAGUUUAGCUUAUGUUACGAGCAAGAUACCGAUGACUCCUAACCAGUCGGUUUUCAGGCACCAGGGUUUGAAGACAUAAGGCCAUUACCCCCUCAAAUAAUUACUCAAGCUUAAAUCAGUUAUUUUCAAAAAAAAAAAUUCAUCAAUUUGUUUUUUUUUUUUUUAUUUCCUCAUUUUAUUGCUUAAGAACAACUCCUUUUAAGCUAAAGAAAUUAUCUUAAUCAAGAUACCAUAAGGGUAUAUGUGCUUUGUGUGUGCUUUGAGUCUUAAAUAGAAAAUAACCAUUAAAAAGAAAAAUGGAAGGUAUUCCAAGGAUUCAACCUAACUAUUUUUGCAUGUAAAGGUAUAUAAAGAUAAGGUAAGUGAACUAAUACUCUUGCUCUGACUAUAUUUUUUUCUAAAAUUCUAAAGAAAUAAUACUACUUAAAGCAUUCUCAUGCAAAAUAAACCAUGAGUUACCAAGGCAAAUCAAGAAUCUCAUUAACUAACCAAAGAUAACAUGCAAAAUUUUGAAAAAAAUUAGGGUUAGUAGAGCUUCCCCCCUCAACCUAAAUUACACAUUGCCCCCAAUGUCUAGGAUAUUGGGUCAAAAUAAAGGAAAAGUGAGAUGUUACCUCAAGAUCAUCGAGUGAGAAUUUUGUUAUGAGGACUUCAUAUAAACUAGUCUUGCACAAAAGCAACAAGAUUAGUGGCAAAAGUAUGCAUAGAGAAAAAUAUAAAUGGUGAGAAUCUAAAAGAGAGAAUAAGUGUAUCAAUAUGCUCCAAAAAUAAGAUAGUGUAUACAACCAUAUUGAAUAAGGUAUAUAUAGAAAUGAACAUCAAGCACCAAUGAUAGGAUCGACAACUCCAUCUAUUUCCUCCAACAUAGGGGUGGCUACUUGGUCAAUAUCCUCCAAUAUAGGUGUAGUAGCCUGAUUAGUGAUCUCCAUAAUAGGUGUAAUGGCCUUGCCAGCAGCCUGUACCAUAUGGGGGGUCAUCCCUAAUAAUGAUGUCCACACUAGUGUCAGUAGCAGAAAUGAAGAUCUCACCAUCGACCUGUCCUACAGAAUUUGGAAUAUCAAUAGUUGAGGUAAAAAUCUUAGUUGCGACAUCACCUGAUGUUUGUAAAAUAGGCAUGGUCUCAUGGGCUACUGUCAGUGCUCUAGUGUUUGAGCUAGAACUAAUCACCUCUGUACUGCCAUCAACCUCUAAGUUGGUAUCAGUUGGUAUAACCAAAUCUCCCCUCUGUUUAGAUGGAAUAACCAAAGAAGUGAGUUGUUGUACAGAAAAAGUGAGGUCAUCCAUCUGAGUCUCCAUCUUACUUAGGUGAGCAUCAAUGCAGGACUCCACAAACACAAAUAACUCCUAAAGUGUGUCUAGACGAGCCAUGAUUGAUAAGGUACUUGAGGUAGCAUCAGCAACCUAAGGAUAUGAAGGUUUAGGAAGAUCGAAGAUUGGUACUGUUGGUGUAGAAAUAUGAAUAGAAGGCUUUGGGGCACAUGAAAGAGGUGGUGGAAGCAUUGGUAAGCUCGUGUAAAAAAUAGGAAUAAGUGGGAGCGAGCUCUCUGUAUUAGAUGGAAGUGGAGCAACAUGCAAAGCUAUCUUUCACCUAAUGCCAUGGGUAGUCAACUGUGUCCCUGAAUGAAUUGUUCGAGCCCACUGAUUGAUAACAUAAGUGUGAGAAGCCAUGUGAUGAUAAGACUCAAGUAACUAGUGUCCACGAUGGAGCAAGUAAUAUGAGAGCAACCGAGGCAAAGGAAUGAGAUAUCUUUGAGCUGAAGCUAUCUGUUUCUCCUUGACCUUCUGAAAAAAAAAAUGAUGGUAUCCAUGAUGAGUUGAGGUGGACUCCACCACUCGCCUACGUACAUGUGAUAACACUCCCAUAAGACUAAACCAGAACGCUUUAUAGAGUGUCCACAACAAGUACCCCGAGGUGCUAGUAUACGUGUAAUCCUCGAAAAAGAUGGUCGUGACUAAGGUGCAAAUCGGGCUUCAGGAGGAGUCGAUGAUGGUAAACCAAAGGCUGCAACAAUGGUCUCAGUGGAAAUAAUAUCAGCUUAUCCUCUGGUAGAAAAAUGGAGCUCUCGGUACCCCCUUUCCAAUCCUCGAGAGUAGAGAAUAACUCUCAUACACUAGCAGUAUAAAAAUAUGGGAGAGGAUCCAUCAAUGUGAGAAAAUAAUAUCGGUCGAGGAGAUACAUGGACUAUGUAGUGGGCUCAUAAGUACUAAAUGCCUUUAUGUCAUAAGAGAACUCUUGACCAAACUCCCAUUGAGAUAGGUUCACCCUAGGGGCAUCAUCACAAACUCUUAGAGAUGGAGGACGUGUUGGGCUCAGAGUAGGGGGAGCUGGCCAUGGAUGUGGAAGAGUGGUAGUAGGCCUGGUGGUCUUAGCAGUGGUUGAGUGAUCAAAACGAGCCUUUGUCCUAGCCUUUACAUGCAUGGCUUUAGUUCUCUUAGUGGUUGGGCGGUCAAAACGAGCCUUCGUCCUGGCCUUUACAUGCUUGGCUUGACAAGUGAUAUGCCUCUCGAUAGACUCACUAAUCAUUACACCACUUUGACUUUGGACGAGAGGUUAGGCAUGCUUUUACCUUGGGGAAUGCUUAGUCUCAUUGUCACUUUGAAUAACAACUUUUCUUUUAUCUAAAAUAAAUGGCAAAAAAUAAACUAAACUUAAAAAAGGGAAAUAAAAACAAAAACAAAAAUUAAGGAUUAAGAAAACAAUCCAAAAAUAAAAUAAAAUUGGAUGCUCAUGAAAUUUAUGGAUUCAUGUGAAAAGGUGGUAAACCAUUCCUAAAUUGCGGGAGAACAUUCAAGGUGUCCAACAAUGAUGAAAACAUGAGUAUUUGAAGCCUUAGAUAUAAUUUAAAUAAUACCUAAGUUCAAAUAUCAUCUGACAAGGAAAUCAAAGUGAUUGGUUAGCUUAGGAGAAUGUGUAGAACAAACAGAAAAAUCUAUUAGAGAGUUUAAAAUGUUCUAGAGCUUAUAAAACAUAAAUUAGGCAACAAUUAUGCAAAACUCAUGGAAAAAUAAGAACUUUGCUCUCAAAGUAUUCUAAGAUGAUCAACAAGCCCUAAAAAUCAUGUAGAAAAAAUUUUAAAAUUUUUCUCUAAGUAUAAACCAAAAAUUCUAACACCCUGAAUUUCCAAGCAAAAUAAACGAAUCGUGUGUAACCAAAAUCAAUCUUAUUGUGCUACGCUCGGGUUUUCGGGGGUUGAGCUCCCCGUUGAGCUCGUGGGAGCCGGGGGGCAGCGCUCUCUAUAAUUUUUUUUUCAUUACAUUUAUUAUUUUUUAUUUAUCUAUCCAACUGAAACAAUAGAAACCCUAAACAAUGUUAAUGAGAGUUGGGUAACACUGCAUUUUAUAUAGAGCAACACUACACAAAGAAACCAUAAAGAUCAAGGAAAAUCCAUAAAAAAUAAACAAGAAAUGAGUAUGAGUGUAAUACGUACCUGGAAAGUGACAAACCCACAAUGAAACCCUAAAAUCGCCUUCAAUGGAAGUUAGGACGAUGAACAAGGGAAGAGGAAAUAAGGGGAAAAUGAGAUGAAAUGGUCUAGAAGUGGAAAUGACUAUUUGUAAAGGAGUUUGGGUGAUUUCAAAGUGAGCUCAAAAUAGAAAUUAAGUAUUUUGAAUUGGAUUUUUGGUUAAGAAAAGUCAUUUCGAAAUUUAACUAUUGAAUUCGAAAAUAACCUUAUUUUAUAUUCAUUAAUUAAUGGUAAAAAAAAUGCCCAUUUUAAAAUGUAACCAUUGGAUUCGAAAACUACCUUAUUUCGAAAUGGCUCACUAUAUAAAACAAAAACAUUUCAAACACCUCAUUUAGAAAUGAAAAAAAAAAAUCAUUUCUAAAUUGGGCAAAUUUUGAAUUCACCUUCUAAAGUUAAAAAAUCUCAAUUCUAAAGCAAAAGUUUCAAUUUUGAAAAGCCCACCAUUUUGAAUUUGCUAAAUGUAGCCUCAAUACAGUGUAAAAAAACCCGUUUAAAAAUUCCACUAAUGAUUUUGAAAAUAGCUCCAUUUUGAAAUGGCUCACUAUUGAUUCCAACUUUUAUUUCGAAAUUCAAAAUUCAUUGUAUUUCGAACUCAUUGUUUGUGAGUUCAAAACACCUAUUUCGACAUUUACUAGUUAUUUCAAAAUUAAUAUCAAUUCGAACACACUUUCUAUAGAUUUAAAAUUGCAAUUCCAAGACAAAAAUUUUGAAUUCGAAAGGAUCAUAAUAUUGAAAUCACCCAUUACUGGUCUCCAAAAGUGUCAUCUCCAUUUGAGAUUUCAAAUUCAAAAAAAAAAGAAAAGGAAUUUUGAAUUCAUCCACUAUACCUUUAACCUUUUAUCAUAAAAAUUUAGGAUUUCUCUCCCAAGGGCUACUCAGUUUUGUAUUUCAUCCUUUGUUUUCAAAGUUCACCAAUGAUCCUCACAAGUAAAUUUUUGGGUGACCUGUUGUCUUAAAUAUAGAUCAACAUACCUAUAAAAGCUUUGUCACCUUGAACACAUGUGAGGCUUACCAUUUCACUCCCUUGAAGUUCACAUUUACCUAUAUCACUCGGAUGUUUGCAAGCUAAGUUGCUACAACUCAUAAACUCAUUAGUAAGUUAAAAACAACUAAAAAAAAUGCUAACCAUAUUGCUAAUGACUAAUUGGAAAUGCAAAACUAAACAAAGGAAAAUAAAUAAUAAAAUAAACUAAAACAAAAUAAAAGAGAAAUUAAAUAAAUAAAAGUUUUACCUAAAUUUAUUUUUUACCUACUAGAUUUUCAAAAAAUACUUCAACCCUUUUAAACAUUCCCAUAAAUAAAAAUGGAGAUUCUCCUCUUGUGUCACAAAUCUUUCAAUGAAAUGCUUUAAGCGUUGAUCAUUAACUUUGAAUUCAUUACCAGUCUUCAGAUUUUGAAUAGUCACAGUGCCAUAAGGGAAGACUUCCUUUACCACAUAAGGGCUAUUCCACCUUGACCUAAGCUUUCCUGGAAAAAUGUGAAGCUUGGAGUCGUACAACAACACCUUUUCACCUUGCUUGAACUCCAUUCAUAAAAUAAGUUUGUCAUGGUAGAUUUUGUGUUUUUUCCCUUGCAUUACGUAAAUAUUCAUAACUCUAAUUUUGAUAUGCCUCAAGUUCAUUAAGAUCAUAUUUCCUUUUAGCUCCAGUUUGAUCCAAAUCAAAGUUCAUCUUCUUUAUAGCCCAAUAUGCACGAUGUUCAAGCUCUAUAGGCAAAUGACAUGAUUUACCAUAAACAAUCUGAUUCGGUGACAUGCCAAAUCCAGUCUUAUAGGUUGUCAUAUAUGCCUGAAGUACAUCACUCAACUUGGUAGACCAAUCUUUUCUUGUAGUAUUGACUACUUUGGUGAGGAUUCUCUUAAUCUCUCGAUUUGCUAGCUCAAUUUGCCCAACGUUUGAGAGUGAUAUGGGGUGGACACUUUAUGCCUCACUCCAUAUUUCUGCAAAAGAGUGGAAAAGGGCUUGUUACAAAAGUGUGAACCUCCAUCAUUAAUGAUUUCUCUCAAAAUGUCAAACCUAGAGAAAAUAUUCUCCUUUAAAAAUUUGAGUACCAAUUUAUAAUCAUUGCUCUUGCAUGCCACUGCUUCUACCCAUUUAGAAACAUAACCCAUUCUCACCAAAAUAUAGAGAUUACCAAAAGAAAGAGGGAAUGGUCCCAUAAACUUAAGACCCCAACAAUCAAAUACCUCAACAACACAAAUAUAAUUUUGUGGCAUUUGAUACCUUGUGUUGAUUUUCCCCAAUUGUUGACAUUGUGGACAACUUCUAUAGUGAGUGUUACAAUCCUUGAAUAUAGUUGGCCAAUAGAAUCAACUUUGUAGAAUGUUUGCUAAAGUCUUCAUUGGAGCAAAAUGACCUCCACAAGCUCCCUCAUGGCACAUUCAUAAUAUGUUUUGUUGUUCAUCCUUUGAAACACAUCUCUGAAUAAUUUGAUUUGGGCAAAACUUAUACAAAUAUGGAUCAUCUCAAGUAUAGUGUUUUGCUCAUGAAAGAAAAUACUUUUUCAUCUCCAUGUUCCAUUUUGAGAAAAGCUCUCUUGUUGCCAAGUAGUUGACUAUAUUUGCGAACCAAGGCAACCUCUCCACUACACAAAGUGCAUCAUCAAGAAACUCAUCAUUAAUCUAUGCUUCCUCGAAAUGUGACUCUACUUUAACUCGGGAGAGAUGAUCAGUAACCACAUUCUCUACCCCUUGCUUAUCCUUUAUUUGAAUGUUAAAUUCUUGAAGAAGAAGGAUCCAUAUAAUAAGUCUUGUUUUGACGUCCUUUUUGUUAAGUAGAUAUUUCAAGGCCGAAUGAUUAGUAAAAAUUACUAUUGAAGUUCCCAAAAGGUAGUUCCUAAAUUUAUCAAUUGCGAACACCACUACAAAGAGCUCUUUUAUAGUAGUUGUGUAGUUCUUCUGAGCAUCAUUAAGGGUCUUACUAGCAUAGUACACCACAUAUGGUUUUCCAUCCUCCAUUUGACCUAGUACGACUCCCACUACAUAAUCACUGGCAUCACACAUUAACUUAAAUGGAAGAGACCAAUUGGGAGGUCUCAUAAUUGGUGCGGUAGUGAGUAGUGACUUUAGCCUCUCAAAAGCUUCUUGGCAUGCUUUACUCCAUAUGAAUUCUGCAUCCUUAAGUAAUAAAGCACAAAGAGGUUGAGAGAUUUUUUAGAAGUCGUGUAUGAACCUUCUAUAAAAAUCUACAUGCCCCAAAAAUUAUCUCACCCCAUUAUCAGUAUUGGGGGAAGGUAGCUUUGAGAUGAGCUCAAUUUUAGUUGGAUCUACCUGAAUGCCUUCUCUAGAGAUGAUAUGACCAAGUACUAUCCCUGAGGUUGACAUGAAGUGACACUUCUCCCAAUUUAGGACCAAGUCCUUCUCAAUGCACCUUUUCAAAACUUUUUUCAAAUUUAAGAGACAAUUGUCAAAGGUCUUCCCAUAAACUAUCAAAUCAUCCAUGAAAGCUUCCAUGAUUCUCUCUACCAUUUCAUUGAAGAUAUUGAGCAUACACCUUUGAAAGGUGGUCGGCACAUUACAAAGACCAAAAGGCAUACACUUAUAAGCAUAGAUACCAAAUGGGCAUGUGAAUGUGGUUUUCUCCUGAUCCUCCAAUGCAAUGGCAAUUUGAAAGUAGCCCGAAUAACCAUCCAAUAAGCAAUAAUAGUCAUGACCAACUAGCUUCUCCAAAAAUGACCAACUACUUUCUCCAAAACCUGAUCUAAUAAAGGUAAUGGGAAAUGAUAUUUCUUGGUGACUGCAUUCAACUUCCUAAAAUAAAUGCAUACUUGCCAACCUGUAGUCAACCUUGUAGAAAUGAGCUCUCCUUCAUCAUUCUUCACUACAGUUAUCCCACUUUUCUUGCGUACUACUUGAGUAGGGCUCGCCAAACUACUAUCGGAGAUAGGAUAUAUAAUACUUGCAUCUAAAAGCUUCAAUACCUCAUUUCUGGCCCCAUCUUGCAUUAGGGGAUUUGGCCUUCUUUGUGGUUGCCUUAUUGGUUUUGCAUUCUCUUCCAAAUAAAUAUGAUGCAUGCAAAUCAUGGGAUUUAUCCCUUUCAAAUCUAAAAUAAACCAACCAAUCACUCUUUUCUUCUCUUUAAGCACUUUUAAAAUUUUGAUUUCUUGCUCUUCAGUUAAUGUAGUUGAAAUGACCAAAGGUUUUUCUUCAUUUUCCUCUAAAUAAACAUACUUUAAACCAUGUGGUAGGGGCUUUAACUCUGGUUUGUUGAUCACAACCUUCCCAUUUUUUAUUUCUUCAUUAUUUUCAACACUGUUCAAAGACUGAAUGGUAUUUUUUUUUCCACUUUGUAACAACUUCAACACGUUCUUCCUUAAUGAUUGUAGAGAAAAAAUCAUCUAUAUUUUCUUCCAUGAACUUUUCUGUGUUUUCUUGCACCAAGGCCUCUAUAAGGCAUGCUUCCUCAUCCUCCGCAUCAUCAUGGUCCAUUAGUUGCUUGCAUAAAUUGAAGACAUUCAUUUCCACUGUCAUGUUCCCAAAAGAUAAUUACAUCAAUCCAUUCCAAUAGUUAAUGAGAGCAUUGGUUGUUGCAAGGAAGGGUCUCCCAAGAAUAAUUGGAACAGAAUUCACACAUUUUUUCAACGGUUCUGUAUCUAACACCACAAAGUCCAAUGGGUAGUAGAACUUUUCAACUUGCACCAAGACAUCUUCGACUACUCCUUUGAGUACUUAAAUUGAACAGUCUGCUAAAGAGAGUGUAAUGGUAGUAGCCUUAAGCUCUCCCAAUAAUCCCAAUUUCUUAUAGAUUGAAUAUGGAAGCAAGUUUACACUAGCUCCCAAAUCUAACAAAGCCCUUUCCAUGAAUAAGUCUCUAAUCUGGACUGAGAUGGUAAAACAUCCUGGAUCUUUGUACUUCACCAUUGCCUUAUUCUCAAUGAUGGCAUUGACUUGCUCGGUGAGGAAUGCUUUCUUGCUUAAUUUAAUCCUUAUCUUCAUAGUGCAUAAGUCAUUAAGGAACUUUACAUAAGAAAGCACUUGCUUGAUCAUAUCAAGGAAUGGAAUGUUGAACUUCACUUGCUUCAAAACUUCCAAAAUCUCCAAAGUCUUAUCCCCCACUUUGUGUCUGCGCAUUGAUGAAGGGAAAGAGAAAUGAUUGAAACACUCUUUUCAUCUUUGCUCACAAUGAAUUUCUGAUAUUUUUCACUCUUUCUCACUUCUAGCAUUUUUCUCCGCGGUUGGUUCAUUUCUAGCAGGAAUAUCUUCACUUAUUGCUAACUUGGGCCUUUCAUAUUCUUUCCCAUUUCUAAGUGUGAUAAAUGCAUUGCAAUCUUCCUUUUGCACUUCAGGAACUUCAUUUACUCAUCUUAGAUUUUUCUAUGGUUGAGUUGUGAACUUUCUUUUCUCUUGAGGUAAGCCUGCAGCAAGUUGGCGUUUGAAUAUCUUCUAGUUCUUAAGAUGUUUGAGCAUUUAUCUUAUUUUGAUCCUCAUUACGCUUGUCUUGCUUUUAUAUAAACUCUCUCAUCGUAUCUUCUAGGCUUGAGUUAAAUGAUGAGGUCUGGGGUUGCUGUUGAAAAUUUUGGGAUGGCAUACCUUGUGGUUGAAAACCUUGCUACCCAUUAGUUUGAUUACCCUAAAAUCGAUUUCCUUGCUGCUGAAAUUGGCCAUUGUUACCUCAUCUCCAUGAUGGAUUUGGAUAAUUCCUCCAACUCGGAUUAUAAGUGUUGGAAUAUGAAGAAUUGCUUAAAUAUUGCUUGUAUGUCCUUAAGGAAUUGGCUUGCUUUGAAAACAUGUUUUGCACUACAAGUAGAGUGGAACAAGAUUGCACACCAUGUUCCAUAGACUUACAUAUCAAGAACGGUUGAGUUAUUCCCUCAUUGACUCUUUGUACCUCUUAACCUCCCUUAGCUUCCAAAUCAUCCAACCUUCUCAUAAUGGUUACAAACUUGACUUGGACAUCUAAACUCUCUGGUAAGGUAUACACUCCAUUAGCUCUUGCCCUAUUCAUUGUUCUAUCUCUAGAUGUUUCCUUGACGAUUGGUUCUUCCUAACUUCUAGAUACCUCAACAACAUAAUCAAGGAAUUGAAAUGUUUCAUCAAGGUUUUUAUUCAUGAAAUCUCCUCCACGGGGGUGAUGUCAUAUUCACAAUCCAUAAUUUGGUAAAAAUCCAUAAUUUGAAUCAAAAGAACCUAAAACAAUAUAUUUAAUAAAGAAAAGAAAGAAAACAAACCAAAGUUCUCGUCUUCUUCCACCUUCAAUGUCAAACUCUCCAAAAAAAAAAAAAAAAUUCCAAGAUCCCUAAAACCUAGAACUAAGAGAGUUUAUAUAAUAUCAUCAAUUACCUAACAUGUGAAACACUCUCAUUGGCCCCUUAUUGCAAAAAUAAUUACCUAAAAAUGAUUAAAAAAAUAAUAAAAUAGUGAUUUCUAGUCACGUGGGGUCCAUUUAGGGCGGAUGGAGUGCCCUAAAUGCUAUUCCCGAGGUAAAGGAGGUGAAACAUCAAAGUGGCAGUGGGUGAAUUUGAAAUUGGUGUCAUUUCGAUGUGGAUUUCGAAUUCAUAAGUUAAAUUUCGAAAUCAUUUGAAAUGACCCUUAAACUUUGUGCAGUUGUUUUCAAAUAGCCAUAACUUCUUCAUUUCAACUCCGAUUUGCACACUGUUUGAAGCGUUGGACUCGUAACCUCCCAAGAAACAAUAUAUUUUAUAUAUAAAAAGGACUUCAAGAAGUGCUCCAAAUUUGUUCUCAAAGUUAAAGUAUAUAUUACCAUUAGAUUUUUUAGUUCUAAAUUUCCAUGUAGCUGAAUCUUGCUUCAUGCCUCAUUUCCUAUGUUUUCUUGCCUUCUUUCUUACUCCAUAAUGGUCAUGUAGGCCCUCAAUUUUGUCCCUUUAGCACAUGUCUUUAAAAUUCGUUUUCAAUGCUCCACAAUAGUUCUUUGGUGGCCCAUAGCUACUCAUACCACUUACCUUUUUUUUGAGUCACCUCGGAGACUUUGGUUGAGGGAUUAUUUGAUCCCUUAUUGUGACCCUUGGCAGUUUUGAUUUAGAUUUAGGUUUUUCUUGCUUUUUUUAGGAUAGCUUUUAGAUACACUUGGCCCAUUAGGCACCACCUUAGGCCCACUUAGUCUCACCUUAGGCCCGUUUAGGUAUACUGGGUCUAUUAAGACUUUUUUUUUAGCGUGACUUAUAUAACUUGCAUGUUUGCAUGGCUCGUGGGCCCAUUUUUUGUUAAUUUGUUUAUUUUUAUUUUAUUUUAUUUUAUUUUUAUUAUUUUUAUUAUUAUUUUUAUUUUUAGUUUUAGUUUUAUGAUUAUCAGUCACUUUUUAUUGGUUAUCUUCCUCUUUAUAUUAUUUUCCUUAACUUAUUUAUUUAUUUAUUAUUUUUACCAUUUUCUAAUUUAUUUACUUAUUUAUCUAUUCAUGCAAUUGUUUAACUUCUAAAAUUUCAUGCUUUUGCAAGGAAACUUACUAUUGGAGUUUAAGGAAGGUGGGACUCUCCUUGGAAGGUUUUGGAGAGGAAUUUGAAAUUGGGAAGAUUGCUUUUGAAUUGGAAGAUUUAAAAAAGGAUAAGGAGAAAAAAGGAGAGAAAAUAGGGGAUUUUCCUUUCGGGAACAGAUUUAGGAUUUGGGAGGUGAUAUAUAUAGAUACGUGAGAGAGGAAGAAAGGAGAGGAGAAAAAGAGCUUUUUUUUUUUUGUGGGAGGAGAUUUUUUUUGGCGGGAAGCACGUAUUGGAGUCUAGAAAGGGAGAAGGAGGAAGAAAGAACAAGCAAAAAGAGGAUUUUUACUUGGGAAUUGUCUUCAGAAAGAAGAGAAAAGAUAGCCAUAAGUCAAGCCAUUGCAACCAAAGCUAUCCAGGUAUGCACCCCGUUGCUUUUGGAAUUCUUACCUAUAUUUGAUUUUUCCGUGUGUUCGAUUCUUGAAAAUUUAAUUGUUUUGUUGAUUUUUGGUAUGGACGAAAAGGGCCACAAUUUGCUUUGUUGAGAUUGGUUACUUGCCUGUUUGCCUUGUUUUGAUUUCGGAUGUCAUUAAUGUCUUCGGAAGCAUAUAACUCCAUGCCUGUUCCCACUAACCUGAGCCUAUUGAAAAAUCAGGAGAUGUGGUUUUAUUUUCUUUUAAUCUCCCAUGUCUGUUUUCCCAUUGUUUCCUCUACUCUCUACCAUAUCUGUUUUGCCUUUUCUUCCUACCCAUCACACGGCCAUCAGCUUUUCAUAUGGGGGUGACUCUAAAGCAUGGGCAUAUAGUCAUGAGUUUCAGUAAAGAGGUCAAACGCUUCAAAAUUCUGGAACUGCUAUCACAAUAUGGGAUCUAGAGAAGAUUGUCCGAAGGGUAUGUCAGCUGUUUAUUGCACUUGCUAAGUUUGGUUACCAUAACGUAAAUUUGUGAGUUCAUAUGGGGAUUAGAGAUGUGGCUCCUUGGAAUUCGAUUAUUCUAGGGUAUUUACACUGAGAGUAUAUUGGGGAGCGUGGGAGAAAGCAACAUUGAAAAGAAAAGAAAGAAAAAAAAGGGGUGGGGAUCGUUUUGGUGAAAAGAGGAAGGAAGCGCAGGAAAAUUAGUGGCAAAAAUCAGAGAAUACAAAACCAGAGGAGAUUCUCUUGUCGGAAGGCAGUUUUUCCAGGCUUGAUCCAGAUUGCGAAAUCAGUGCACUAUUCUUUUGGGCUCGGGGUGGUUUUGAAGGUAAUGUGUUUGUGAAGACGACUUUGGUUGACGUGUACUCAAAAUUUGGAUGUAUGGGUAUUGCGAGGCAAUUGUUUGAGAGUAUGUCAGAAAGAAACGUUGUUUCAUAGAAUGCGCGGCUUAAUGUAAUUACUUCUCUACACUUGAUCAGUCAUUAGGGCAGAUUAUUGCUUGAAAGCUUGUUACUAAACAGGUUGUCUAUUUCCCUGAACUUAGUUCUCUUCUAACUUCAGAGCGUAUGGAACUCUGUACACUUUUUUUUGCUUCUGAUUUCUCUUCUAAUGGCUCUAAGUGUAGAAGGGAAGAGCUUGAAGUUUUACGUGCUCUGCAAAUGAUGUUUUCUGUUUGAUCUCAAUGAUGUUUUGUUAAUAUCUGUGUUCUUCGGUCAGAGAAAGAAAUUUCAUGGAGAAGGGUUUACUACAGAAUGGGUGACUUCGGAUAUUAAGAAGAAAACUGGCCUUCGAACUACAGCUGAAGCACAUGUGACACUUGACUGUGCCAGAAGAGUCGAAUUUCUUAGCAAUAAAUGCAUGAAGCCCAGAGGGGAUCUUGAUGAUUUUGGCAACAACUUCUGUCUUGAAAGCAACUGCUUUUGCUGAAAAGAAUUCGGGCAGUGGCCCACAGUAUGAUAGCCUCUACUGAAAAGACCAGCUUUCCAGCAAUGAACAGCAUCAUCACUGAUGUCUCCUCUCACCCUCUCAACGGUUUUCUCUCCUCGUUCUUCUCAGAUGCAUCCCCGUUGUCUCCAUUUCCUCUCUCACUCGCUUCCCAUUUUCUACAAAUUCAAGAGUCCCCACAGUUUCUGCCCAAAAUCCUAGAACCGCCCUAUUUUCCUUGUUCGAAACUGCGCUUCCAUUACCGCAAAACCCUCUUCUCAGUUUCGGAAGAAAUCUGCCGAUUCCGAGCAGGAUGAGAAGCUUCGUUCUCUGUGUGAGCUGUUCUCGAAGCCCGGAAUUGGAAUUGAUGCGUAUAUUAUCCCUUCCCAGGACGCCCACCAGGGAACAAAUUAAGCCUCCAGUUCCACUUGGAGGUUUAUCUGGAUUCAUGUUCUUUGGUUCCAUUUACCACAUAGUACUUGUCGUCGGUGAGUCAACUGGAUAUUUAAUUCUGAAGCACUUCUAUUUUGGCUUCUAGAGUGAGUUCAUUGCUGAACGUUAUAUGAGGAGGGCCUACAUAUCAGGGUUUACUGGCAGUGCUGGUAUUGCUGUUGUCACAAAGGAUAAAGCAGCUCUUUGGACAGAUGGGCGUUAUUUUCUCCAGGCAGAGAAGCAGUUAAGCUCUAAUUGGAUUCUUAUGCGGGCUGGUAACUAUGGAGUUCCUACAACCAGUGAAUGGCUUAAUGAUGUCUUGGAUCCUGGUUGUAGAAUUGGCAUUGAUCCUUUUCUUUUUUCUUCUGAUGCUGCAGAGGAAUUGAAAGAGGCCAUUGCUAAGAAGAAUCAUGAAUUGGUUUACCUAUAUGAUUUAAAUCUUGUGGAUGAAAUAUGGAAAGAAUCAAGGUCGGAGCCUCUAAGAAAACCAAUUAGAGUGCAUGAGCUGACGUAUGCUGGUUUAGAUGUCUCAUCAAAAUUGUCUUCCUUGAGGUCUGAACUCAUUGAUGCUGGUUGUUCUGCUAUUGUUGUUUCUAUGCUUGAUGAAGUUUCUUGGCUGUUAAACUUGAGAGGAAAUGAUGUUCCAAACUCACCUGUUAUGUAUGCAUACUUAAUUGUGGAGAUUGAUGGGGCAAAAUUAUUUAUUGAUGAUUCUAAAGUUAGCCCAGAAGUGAUGGAUCACUUGAAGAAUGCAGGCAUAGAGUUGAGACCAUAUGAAUCCAUUCUAGCUGAAAUAAAGAAUUUGGCAGCAAAAGGGGCACACCUCUGGUUGGAUACGUCUUCUGUUAAUGCUACUAUUGUCAACACCUACGAGGCUGCUUGUGACCAGUAUUCUGGGAGCCUUGAUAAUAAGAGGAAAAAUAAGUCUGAGGCCUAUGGAGUCGCCAAUAGUCAAUCUGGGGUGCCCACUGGAGUUUAUAAGAUUUCACCUAUUUUGCUGGCGAAGGCUGUGAAAAAUCAGGCUGAAUUAGAAGGGAUGCGCAAUUCUCAUCUAAGGGAUGCAGCUGCUCUUGCACAGUUUUAGUCCUGGCUGGAAGAAGAAAUCCUUAAGGGUGUGCUAUUGACAGAGGUAGAUGUUGCAGAUAAACUUCUUCAAAUUCCGUUCUAUGCAGCUGUUCUACUGAAAGGCACAUGCGAGUAAUCACUAAACUCGUUAAAACAUUAUCUUCAUUUUCGAACCUGGAGUGUAAUCCCUCGAAGAGCAUUUUUUUAUUGCUAUAUAAAAAAGGCAAAAAAAAAAAAAACAUGAUAGAUGGAGGAAUGGCUCGGCACCUAGCUAGCAUUUUUAAGUGAUCCAGUUUUCAAGUCUGAUGGUUUGAACAAGAAAAAUCCCCAGCUUCAAACGGAAUAUCUGACGACCAGUGGAUUGCACCAUUGGCUAUAGAGAUUGGAAAGAAUAGUCGGAAUAGAAACAUCCAACAAGGACUCAUGGAUGCAGCAGGAACAGAGCAGCGACAGCGUGAAGGAAUUUCGCAAAGUGAAGGAAAUCAUUCAUUUACAGAUUCGGUCAGAUCAUGGAUGAAAAAUAACAAUGAGGAGUCUGCUUGGUGAUGGCAACGACAAGGGUACAUAUUCUAGUAGAACCAUUGAAUCAAAUCUUGGUGGUGGGAAAUUAACACAGAAUGCAGGAAAUCUGUCAAUACAAAGAAAUUGGGGAUUUUGAAUUUUAUGUUCCGUGUUUGAUCAAUGUUGGGGAGAAUCCAUUUGAGCUCACGAACCAAGUUACCUUAUACAUGGAAAUGCUUUUGACCACUGAAUAUCCUGCCGACGAAUUGGGUCCUUCUAUCCCGAAUUUUGAGGCUCCACUCCCUCUCGGCCACCUUGCCACACAUCAUACUCCCAAUGUUUCUUUUUCUUCUUUUUGUGAUCUUAUACAUUUUAAAUUUGGAUUUCAAAAUCUUUUUUUUUUCAUUAAAACAACUUCAAUUUUCUUCAAAUUCCAUCCUUAGGGAUUUCUAGGCAUAAAAUUUAGAUUUCAAUAAUCUUUUGCUGCCACUUUCCUUCGGGCAUGCAUUUUCACUAUUUUCUUUUAUUUUUCAUGGUUUUCUCGAUUUUCUCAAGCAUGAAUAAAACUUCAUAAUUCCAAAUCAUGGAAUUUAUGGAAUCAACUCAUGCGAAAUUAAUUAGGGCUUUGGUGGGGGCCCGACAUUCAUGAUAUUAUCUUCAAUAUUGUUUGCUUGAUAUCUGAUUGAUUUUUUAUUCUUCUCGAUGAAAUACUUGAAUUCGCUUUAUAUUUAUUGUUGAGAUAUCCUUGUUUCCCAUAGACGUGUGGAUGCUCGCUAAAUCAGGUACGCUCUUCCCACCCUACAACUCUGAAAUUCUAUGAAUGUGUACGUUAUCAUGAGCCAUGACCAUGUUUGAUGCCACAUUUGAUUGUGUUGAUGCUUGUUUGAUCAUCUUUGAUAAAAUACAUGUAAUGCGUCAUAUUUCCAAACUAAUCUCCUAUGUUUUAUGAUAGCGCUUGAGAAGCCGUUCAGGUUUGCACUUCGACCCUCUCUUAUGGUUGGUUUUCUUAUUAGGCAUGCAAUAUUUGAAAUCACCUAGCCUACUUAGGUAUCCAUAAUUAACUUAUUAAUGGCCACACUUCCCUUAACUUUGUCAGUAGAGACCUUCAGAGGGCUUAGAGGGGUGCUACCUUUUAAAGGUACCUUCCCAAUAGUAAACCUGAUCCCCGGACUUAGACUUGGGUUUUUCAAAGACAUGCUUUUUCCAAAAAUUAUGGAGUCACAUUUUAGGGUUUUUCUUUCUUGUUUUAUUUUCCCUUUAAAAUAAAAAUAAAAUAAGUGGCGACUCCAACUUUUUCCAAAAAUUAUUUUUUCACAAAUAAAAAGCGAGUCUCACCGAUCGAGUGGGGACACACAUGAAAUAUGCGGGUCCACAAGUCAUUUAUCAUCUUCCAAACUCAUGAUAUUCUUGUCUUGCCUUUCCUCAUGGUCCAUGAGUCUUGACUCACUUAUUUUCUCAUUUAACCCUUUCUUAGUCUUUUAAAAUUUAAAAUGAUUCAACUUGCACCCUUUUCUUCCCUUGAACCUAAGAUAAGUCUCCAAAGUACAAAUUAAACUCAUGGCUAGGGCCUUAGUAUUGAUUUAGGUCAAGUUGGGUGAUUUGAAUGUCCUUUGGUGUAUAAAUCAUAUAGAAUAUGUGCCAUUAGAGCACAUAUUUUGGCUCCAAUCAAGCUUACUCGCCAAAUUCCGUAUGUCAAACAUUGAGUGAUAGAAUGGAGUGGGUUGGUCAAAGAUUCAUUUGAGGCUCUAUAGUAUAGUCAUGAGAGCACACAAAUUAGAUGAUAUGUAGUUGGUUGCUCUCUUCCCCAUGUCACUUAGUUGAGCAGCAUAUAGGUGGUUGGCAUUAAUUAAGCCUUCGAGACUCUGCACUUAGGAGGAUGUGGCCUAUAAGUUUUUGACACAGUUUGCCUUUAGUGUCAAUAUUGAUUUUUUUAUUUUUUUUACUAAGCAAGAUGUCGAGAGUGUUACUUAAACAUCCCUAUGACAAAAGCAAAAGUUGUUGUCUUUAGUGCUAAUAUUGAUGUUUCUAGGAGAGAGUUAGAGGCUACUAAGUAGAAGCUAAAUGAAUCUGUUUCUUCAUUUAUUAGUCAUUGGAGGGCUAAGGUGGUUGGUAUGAUAGAUUGACUUAAGGAGUAAGAUUAGAUUGAUGUGCUUCUUUGGAACCUUCAGCCGAGGUUUGCCAGAUGUCUUGUAGGUAUUCCAUUUCAAGACUUCUUAAAUUUGGUUCAAUUCAUUUUUAGUGUUCAGGAGGGUAUUGCUAGAGUGUUAUAGACAAACACUAUUCCUUCCUUAGACAUUAAAGGAAAGAAGCUUGUAGGAUCAUUAGGGAGGCUUGGAGAUGUUAACACUAUCAGUUAUCAUCAUCGAGGUCAACUUAUUAGUCAUACCAAAGGUCUCCUACAAUCAAAGCCUACUUUCCUCAUCCAUUGUGCCAAUUGAUUCAUGCCCAAUUGGUGUCUCAGCUGAUUUGCAUCCAGCUAGUGCUCCUGAUUGAGGGAGUAAUCAACAAAAUUUAUAACCUAUAACACCAUAUACUAGGGUAGCAAAGACAAAGCUACUAUAGUAUAGUGGCUUUAGGAUCGUUCACUGGGAAUGAUUAACAAGCAAUCAAUGAUACCAAUUCCAAGUGAAUUGGCCUUGUUUCAUUUCAAGGUUAGCUUAAGAAGUAACACACAAACUUUGAUUGGUAAAGGUUUAGACUUAAACUAACUAACAUAACAGAAGUUUGGAAUAAUUUAGGAAGAAAAGCAUUCCUUAGAGAUUUAGGUUCACUAGGGUGGUUCCUCAUGCAAAAGACACGGCUUUGGUUAGAUGGUUCAUUUCCUCGCAUUAGAGAUUCAACAUAUAGUCAAUUCUCUAACCGGUGAUGUACAGAGACUCCUUCAAUUAGAUUUCACUUUAAUUCUCUCACUGAUGCAACUUGCAAUGGUUUAAGCCUCUCACUAAGCCUUAACCAUUCAAGGUGAUCUUUAACCUUGGAUUACCCGUCAAAAGCUCGCAAGAGAUAACUAAUGGAUGUCUCCUAGGAGUCCAAAAGCUUACCAAGUGUUGGCUAUUCUAGAAAAUCCUACCUUGAAGUCACCUCCCAGAGGCUCGCAAGGGGUAAACUAGUGCAUUUCCAUGGUUGGAAAUCACUUGCCUUACCAAGUGUUGGCCCAGGUGACUCCAAGGUGUUUUAAGUUAACUAAAAACAUAGAAAUCAUUGAAGGAUUUCACUUCCUCUUCAUUACUAGCUAAAACCACAAAGCUUUGCAUUCUUGCACUUGGAACCUCCCCCGGCAACCUUAGCUCCAAGGAAUUAGAGGUUUAGUUACUCAUUCUCUGGGGAAAACUCCUCAGAGAGUUCAUAACUUAGUAAUAAGUAAAAAAUACAAAGUGAGAAGGUAAGGCAGUAGAAAGAAAAGAGACUUUACUUGCUUACCCAAACUUUUUCAGAAGGAACUCCUCUCUGAGAACAGGCUCUCGAGAGGUAUAUAUAUGAACAUAAUAUAAAACUAAUUAUUACAUAGAUAUUUAGUCUUUUUACUAACUUAAAAACUAAGGAAUCAUGUAAUUGGUGGUUUACAAGGAGUAUUUUGGGAUUUAGACAACAAAAAUCUAAUGGAAAAUAUCUCCCAAUGUCGGUAGCAAAUAUCGGGAGGCUUCAGGAACCAUUUCGCAGGAGAAAAAUGGUGUCUGCGAGAUUUCGCAGACACUCAAGAGGGCUGCGAAAUUAUUUCGCAACACCAAGCUAUCUUCACAGGGCUGCGAAGUUGGCUUCUACCUUGAGGUUCCUAGCUUCCUUCUCGCGGCAUAAAUCGUGCAUCGUCAGAAGGACAAACACCUUACUGUACAAAAAUGCUGCGAAAUCACUUCGCAACAAAAGGGUGAUUUCGCAACACUUUGCAAAAUGCUUCCUUCAGCUCGAAGUGAUUGGCUUGUAAUGGCUGCAACUUUUUCGUUUCAACUCCGAAUUGCACACCGUUUGAAGCAUUGGAUUGUUGACUUCCUGAGCUUUGAAAUGGUAUAUAGCAUGCAUCAUUUGGACUUCAGAAAGUGCUCCAAAAGUGGCUGCUACGACUGUCAUCAAGAAUAUGCUUUAUGGCAGAUUCUCUUUACUUUUUCUCCUUGCAAUCCGGAUUUACUCUUGGCAAAUGACUUCUCAACUUUGCCCAAGAUUCCUCAUAGCUCUCCUCAGACUUGACUUGCUUUGGUGAUCAAAAUACUAACAAAAACACCAAAACUUACACAAAGUGAUUAAAAUUGCUUUAAAGGAUCCUUAACAUGCCAAUUGAGUUAAAAGGCUUAAACUACUACUCAAAAGUGUUUAAAAGGAUUAAUUAUAGGCUAUCAAAUAGCACUUUUUGAGUAGUAACCACUCCCCCCAACCGACAUAUUGCUAGUCCCUUAGCAAUAUAGGAGAGAAAAAUAAAAAUAAAUAGCAAACUAAUCUAAAAUUUACAACAUCAUGCUGAAAGGAAAUAAUUCUCAAGUGGCAUGAUGAUCUAAUUCUCACAUGAAUCAUUAAAGAAAUACAAACCCAAAUCUCAACAAGAGUCAUAACACCUAUGCUAAACACUGUCAAUCAAGGGAGUGCGUUAUGCAAACUGAAGUUUUAAAAUCAUUUCCACUUUCUAAGAAUCAAACUUUAAUCUUCCACAAAAAUCUAUGUGUAUUGGUUCCUUAGGUUCCGAUAAUAAUAUGCUAAACUAGUCUCUCCCCCCAACCUAUNNNNNNNNNNNNNNNNNNNNNNNNNNNNNNUACUCAAAAGUGUUUAAAAGGAUUAAUUAUAGGCUAUCAAAUAGCACUUUUGAGUAGUAACCACUCCCCCCAACCGACAUAUUGCUAGUCCCUUAGCAAUAUAGGAGAGAAAAAUAAAAAUAAAUAGCAAACUAAUCUAAAAUUUACAACAUCAUGCUGAAAGGAAAUAAUUCUCAAGUGGCAUGAUGAUCUAAUUCUCACAUGAAUCAUUAAAGAAAUACAAACCCAAAUCUCAACAAGAGUCAUAACACCUAUGCUAAACACUGUCAAUCAAGGGAGUGCGUUAUGCAAACUGAAGUUUUAAAAUCAUUUCCACUUUCUAAGAAUCAAACUUUAAUCUUCCACAAAAAUCUAUGUGUAUUGGUUCCUUAGGUUCCGAUAAUAAUAUGCUAAACUAGUCUCUCCCCCCAACCUAUCUCUUUUCAACACUUUAGCAAACUGACCAAAAUCAAUAAGAAAAGAACACACUUUCAUCAUCUAUUUUUAUUUUUAUUAUUAUUUUUUUUUCAAGGUAGCUUUAUGGGGUACUCUUUCUGACUUGUCCAUGUAAUGGGGGUCCAUCGAUGACUCCCAACCAAUUAAGGUUUAGGGCACCAAGUUUUAAGGAUCUUUCAACCACUAACUCCUCGGAUUUUUCCCCGGACUUUUAAGAAUGAAUUUCUAAUACCCAAGCAUCUACCAUAUGCUAACUCUACCUAUUCACCCUUAUAACGAGCAUUGAGGUCGGUGUCUCCCAACCAAUUAAGGCUUAGGGCACCAGGCUUUAAAGGCUUUCACCAUAUGCCCCUCAGACCUUGCUCGGGUUUCAAGGCAAGCAAACAACUUUCUUUAUUUCAAAGGCUCAUUGGCCUUUUGCAGGGUGUUUCAAUUUUUAUCAAAUGAGGUCAAAUAUACCAAGUCCCAAAAUUGUCCUAAGUCAAGAGGGAAAUAGCUUUUCAUCUUAUAAUCGGAAACUAAUGUGCACAGUGUGUGGAUAGCUUAAAGUGGAAGAACUAACUUCAAUUUCAAUAGAAGCUUCAACAAUUGAACCACUUUAGUAAGCAUAAUCCAUACUCUAAGUCAAGUGAAAAACAACAGUUCAAUUUCUCUUGGUUUAAUUUGAAAAUUUUUCCUCAAAAUUCAUGGAGAAUAGAGUAACAAGAGUAAAAAGUAAAAACUACAACUAAUUAACCAAUAUAAUUGCAAUACCAAAAAGAUUUAGAAUACUUCCUUUCUCAUACCCCCCAACCGAACUGAGCAUUGUCCUCAAUGUGAUUUGAGUGACUGUAAUAAAAGGGAGGAAGUGGUACCUCCUUGCUGAAAUCAAAUUCGAAUAUUGAUUGGGGAAAACCACAUGUUUCAAAAAGAAUAGAAUAUGUGAGAAAAGGAAAUAAGAAUAACUUAAUGCUAACUUUUAACAAGAAAUAUUCAACUUGUAUUACUUUAAAUUCAUUUGAUUACAAUGCAAAAGACAAGUAACACAAGGAAUCCCAAAUAUAGUACCAAAAUACUGGGAUUUCUUUUCAACUAAAAAAAACGAAAUACAUAAAAAUAUUAGAUAUCUAAUAUAGUCUAAUGAGUGGGGUGGUGCUGGGAUUAGGCAGAAGGAUCUACCUCUUCAGUAGGUGCAUCAGCUGGGGCUUAGGGCUCAGGAGGAUGAGACUCUGAAGGAUGAGGGUGUGGCUCUGUUGGAGUAUCAGUGGAGGGCUCUACAGCUUGUGGCAGAUCGAAAUGGACUUGGAGCUGCCUUAAGAUGGCAGCUUGUUGAGCCUAAGUGGCUAACAUCUGCUCUUGGCAUGCUCUGAUGGCUGCCAUCUCUUGAGCAAGAUUGCUUUGAGAAGCUGUAAGUGUCUCCAAUGCACGGCACAACUCUCGAUAUUCAGAUAUAGGAAUGGCCAUCCUCGGCUCAGCUGAUGUGGAUGGCUGAGAUGAAGCAGGUGCAGCUGGUGGAGCUCUAGGAAUGGCAGGAGCAGCAACUGUUAUACCUUCAAGUAUAUGUCUUGGGGAGGCUCUCCUUGCAGCUGGUUGAGGCUGCCCAAGCUGAUCAACUUUGUAGGUCGUCAUAUUAUUCCAUUUAUCAAGAGUGAAUAGCUCACGGCAAAUUCGCUUUCUCUCCAGCUGAGGCUCAGAGGGGUAUCCCAGAUGCUCCAAAAUUUGGCAUAGCAGCCUUGGGAAGAGGAGGGGAAUGCAAUCUGCUCUCUGAAGCUUCUUUUUGUGAACCUUCUCUUCAAAAUAGAGAAGGGCUGCCAUGAUCAGAUGAUGAGGCCCAAUGAAAAAUCCUUCUGACAUCUUGUAAAGAGCUUCUAGGAGGACUCCCCUUCUUUGGGUCCAAUGUUGCAAUGGGUAUAUAUUAUGACGCAAAAAGGCAUCAAUCAAAAACAUAACUGGAGGAAGCUCCCCCCUCAGCAGAUGUGAUCGAUUUGCAGCUCAUCUGGAAAGGGUGUGAACCACCUCUAGCUCAGUAGGAUUUGCCCAAGCUCUAAAAUUAUCGAAUUGGGUUGGCUCAAAGGGAAUUUGCAAGGCUUCAGCAAUAUGUCGUGCUCCCAAUAUGCCAUGUCUCCCAUCGAUUGUGAAAUGAAUCAAGGUUGGAUUUCUGACCUCUUUGGUUGUCAUGGAUUGGUAGAAAUUCGUGGCUAUCCGGGGAUAGAAAAAGUCUCUUGGAGCUAGCAGUUGCUCCAUGUGAUACCUCCUCAGCAGCUGGAAUGAUUGGGCAAGCUCUGGCCUCACUCUGAAUGCCAGUAAGUCGAAGCAAAGCUCGGAGUGAAAUGCCCGUGUUCUACAAUCCAAGUUUCCCUCAAUUGGGGGCUGAGGUAGCAUUGGCCUUUGGAUUACUUCUUCCAGAGCUGUUUCAGCUUGAAUUUGGGGCUCGGGAAGUGGCGCUUGAGGCUCCUGAGAUUUUUCUUGCGGCGCCGGAGAUGGUACCGGCGAUGGAACUGGUAGGGGACUCGGCAAGGGAACUGGAGACGGCACUGGAGUUUGAACCGGUGAUGGAAUUGGUGAAGGCUCUGGAGAUUGCUCAGUCAAAUCGAUGGGUUCUGAGCUCUCCACCCUGGGUUUCUUCUGCAAUGGCCGACCUCCUGACCUGGUAAGGUAUCGUCUUGUCAGCGGCUUUGGUGGCGCGGGCUUCACCGGAGGAGGAUUUGGCCUUGACGGCGAAGGCUCUGGAGCAGAACCUGGACUUGGCUCCUUUCACAGACUCUUCUUGCGGUUCGAAGGAGAUGAAGACUUAGCCCCUCGUGUUCGUGCCAUUUCGGGAUACCAAACUUUGGCCGGCAUUGCUGAUCGGAGGAGAUGACAGGAGGCUCGGACGGCGUGGCUCAAGGAAGAAGAUGAAAGGUCUACGAAAAUGGCGCUCUGAUUUUUGAAACCCUUUUCGCAGCUUAAAUGACCGGUAUAAAUAGGAAAAACGGAAGCCUAAGGGUCAGUUUAAGUUUCGUAACAAAACCCCAAUUUCGUAGCAAAAUGCCAUUUUCGCAGCAACUUCGCAGUGAGUUUCGCAGCUGCAAAAUGAGAGUUCUUGUGCUGCAAAGUGGCACUUGUGUGCCAAAACCACUUUCGCAAUUGCGAAAUACCCUGCGGAAUGGGACUUUUGGUGCGAAAUCACGCUUUUCCACUUCGCAAUGCGUUUCGCAGCUGCCAAAUGGAUGCUACUGUACUGCGAAGUGGCACUCGUGUGCCAAAUUUGCUUUCGCAGCUGCGAAAUACCCUCGCAGAGACUUCUACAGUGUUGCGGAAUGGUUUGGCAACAAAAUGCUCAUUUCGCAGAAGUUUCCUUCACUCUGCGAAAUUUCGUAGAGCUCUGUUUUUCCCCUGUUUUUGCUCUGUUUUGGCUCCGAUUUCGACCCAAUUUUUUUUCUUUCAAUUUCCUUGAAAUUUCUUCCACCUGGGAUCAUUCAAAACAAUUAAAACACACCUAAAAACAUCAUUUAAGAUCAAAAACUAAGAUCAAAAGUAUGGAAACAACUUGAAAAUUUACAAAAUUUACAAAAAUUUUGGACUGUGGUAAAACCACGUCCAGCAAACCCUUUUUCACUUAAGCUUUUUGAGGUUCAAGGAGGUUGAUCUCCUCCUUUUCUGGUUUGAAUGGCUCCAAGAAUGGCUUGAGACGAUAUCCAUUGACUUUAAAGCUAUCCUUGCCAUUGGAAUUCAAUAAUUCCACCACUCCAUUGGAAUAUACUCGGUGAAUAAUGAACGGGCCUAUCCACCUUGACUUGAGUUUCCCAAGAAAGAUAUGGAGUCUUGUGUCAUACAUCUAAACUCUUUGUCCUUCCUGAAAUUCCUUGUUGGAGAUGAGUUGAUCAUGCCACUUCUUCAUCCUCUGUUUUGCAACUUUGGAAUUGAUAUAAGCAUUAUUUCUUAAUUCCUCCAUCUCAUUAAGGUCUAGAAAUCUCUUUUCUCCUGCCUUGAUCAAGUCCAUGUUCAGCUUCUUAACUGCCCACCAAGCUUUGUAUUCAACUUCCACAGGGAGAUGGCAUGCUUUACUAUAGACAAGACGAUAGGGAGACAUCCCAAGAAUAGUCUUAUAAGCUGUUCUAUAUGCCCACAAUGAAUCAUGAAGAUGUUCUUUAUUUCCCUGUUAGCUAGCUCAACUUGCCCGGAAGUCUGAGGAUGAUAAGUUGUAGCCACCUUAUGCUUCACUCCAUACUUGGAUAAUAGAGCUUCAAAAGGUUUGUUGCAAAAAUGAGCACCUCCAUCACUGAUUAUGGCCUUGGGCACCCCAAAUCUUGAGAAAAUGUUCUCUUUAAGAAACUUGAGAACCACCCUGUGAUCAUUUUGUUUACAGGGGAUUGCCUCAACCCAUUUAGAAACAUAAUCCAUCCCCACCAAAAUGUAAGAAUUACCAAAAGACAUUGGGAAAGGUCCUAUGAAGUCAAUGCCCCAUACAUCAAAUAACUCAACUAUCAGAAUGGGGUUCAUAGGCAUUUGAUUUCUUUUUGUUAGCUUUCCAAGCCUUUGGCAUCUAUCACAAUUCCUACACAUGAUGUGGGCAUCUUUGAAAAGAGAUGACCAAGUAAACCCUGAUUGCAAUACCUUCAUGGUUGUUUUCUGAGAAGCAAAGUGGCCUCCACAUGCAUUCUCAUGACAAUGAGAUAGAAUCCCUUGCUACUCAUCUUCAGGGACACACUUCCUAAUAAUCUGAUAUGCACAAUACUUAAAGAGAAAGGGCUCUUCCCAAUAAUAAGAAUGAAUUUUGGCAAAGAAGUGCUUCCUGUCCUGUGCAUUCCACUCACUUGGAAUUUCACCAGUUACUAAAUAAUUAGCAAUAUGAGCAUACCAAGGAGUUUUCACUAGGAACAUGAGUGAUUCUUCAGGAAAAUCAUCAUUGAUAGGCAAGGGAUGGGAGUUAUGUGCUAUAACUAACCUUGAGAAGUGGUCAGCUACCACAUUCUCCACUCCUUUCUUAUCUUUGAUUUGAAGAUCGAAUUCUUGUAACAAAAGAAUCCAUCUAAUCAACCUUGCUUUUGCAUCUUGCUUUGUCAAUAAAUACUUCAAGGCUGAAUGGUCAGUGAAGACAAUGAUGAAAGACCCCACUAAAUAAGCACGAAAUUUGUCCAAAGCAAAUACCACAGCUAACAAUUCUUUCUCUGUAGUUGUGUAGUUCCUCUGAGCUUCAUUUAGUGUUUUACUUGCAUAGUAAAUCACAUAGGGCUUCCCAUAUUCUCUUUGGCCAAGCACAGCUCCUAUAGCAAAGUCACUGGCAUCACACAUCAGUUCAAAAGGUAAUUGCCAGUUAGGGGCUCUCACUAUUGGAGUUGUUGUUAAAAAUUUCUUCAGUUGAUCAAAGCUAUUCUGACACCUUUCAUCCCAUAUAAACUUAGCAUCCUUAGCUAACAGCUCACAAAGAGGUUUUGAAAGACUUGAAAAACCUUUUAUAAACCUCCUAUAGAACCCUGCAUGGCCAAGGAACUGUCUUACUCCUUUUACAGUUGUUGGAGAUGGUAAUUUGACAAUAAGCUCCACCUUUGCUUUAUCAACUUCAAUGCCUUUUUCAGAGAUGAUAUGGCCAAGGACAAUUCCUUGACGUACCAUAAAAUGGCAUUUUUCCCAAUUAAGCACCAGGUCUUUUUCAAUGCAUCUAUGAAGAACUGCUUCCAAAUUAACCAAGCAUUCCUCAAAUGUACAUCCAUAUACGGUGAUGUCAUCCAUGAAAACCUCCAUAAUUCGCUCCACCAUAUCACUGAAAAUACUCAACAUACAUCUUUGAAAUGUAGCAGGUGCAUUGCAUAAACCAAAAGGCAUUCUUCUAUAAGCAUAUGUUCCAAAUGGACAUGUAAAAGUGGUCUUUUCUUGAUCUGCCAAAUCAAUUUCAAUCUGAAAAUACCCUGAAUACCCAUCCAAGAAACAAUAGAAUGGAUGUCCAGAGACUCUCUCCAGCACUUGAUCAAUAAAUGGCAAUGAAAAAUGAUCUUUCCUAGUGACAGCAUUCAGCUUUCUAUAAUCAAUACACACCCUCCAACCUGAAGUGAGGCGUGUAGUAAUUUCUUCCCCUUUUUCAUUCUGAACCACUGUGAUCCCUGACUUCUUUGGUACUACUUGAGUAGGACUCACCCAAGGGCUAUCAGAUAUAGGGUAAAUGAUUCCUGCUUGAAGUAGCUUCAACACCUCAGCUCGUACCACCUCUUGUAGAUGAGGAUUCAACCUUCUUUGAAAUUGAUGAAUUGACUUUGCUUCCUCCUCCAUAUAUAUAUGAUGAGUACAAACUAAAGGACUAAUGCCUUUCAAAUCAGAUAUUUGUCAUCCUAUUGCCUUCUUACACCUCUUGAGAACUUCCAUUAAACAAUUCUCUUGAUGACUAGUCAGAGAUGAAGAUAUCACAACAGGACAUUGAUUAUUUGCUUCAAGAUAUGUAUAUUUCAGCUCCACAGGUAAAAGCUUCAGAUUGAGUUUUGGAAUUUCUUUUUCAGCAGCUGCCUCCUCUUCCUUAUUGAACAAAGGUAGAAUUCCUUCUAUCUUUCUCCAACUUUGUAGAGUAGCAAGCCCAAUAGGAGAUUCAGAAAAACCUUCCUCAAUAUCCUCAAGACUUUCAUUCAACUUUUCUUGCAUAUGUUGAUUGCAGUGCUCCUCUACCAAAGAAUCAAUUAUACAUAGCUCUUCUGGACCUUCUUCUUCCUCCGGAGUGAUUUGCUUUUUAGACAUGUAGAAAAUAUUGAGAUCCAGUGUCAUGUUACCAAAAGUGAGUUGCAUAAGCCCAUUCCUGCAGUUGAUGAUUGCAUUUGAAGUUGCAAGAAAUGGCCUUCCAAGGAUGAUAGGAACUAAAUUAGCUUCCUUUACAGUAGGAUCUGUAUCAAGAACAAUAAAAUCUACUGGAUAGUAGAAAUUAUCCACUUGAACCAAUACAUCCUCAAUUACCCCUCUUGGAAUUUUCACUGAUCUAUCUGCCAGAGAUAGAGUGAUUGCUGUUGGCUUCAACUCUCCAAGUCCCAAUUGCUUGUAGACAGAAUAUGGAAGCAAAUUCACACUUGCUCCCAAAUCUAACAAGGCUUUCUCCACUACCUUUCCUCCAAUCAUGACUGAAAUGGUAGGACUUCCAGAGUCUUUGUACUUCAAAGGAGACUUACACUGUAAGAUUGCACUUACUUCCUCAGUCAAGAAGGCUUUCUUGUUUACAGUCAACCCUCUUUUGAUAGUACACAAGUCCUUUAGGAAUUUUGCAUACGUUGGAACUUGUUUGAUCAUAUCUAGUAGUGGAAUAUUAACUUUCACUUGUCUCAAGACUUCAAGGAUUUCAGCUGCAUUUCUAACCCCCUUUUUCCCAUGUAAUGCUUGAGGAAAAGGUGGAGAAGUUGAUUUCUUCAGCAUUUCUUCCUUCAGAAGCUCCUUCUCUGGAAUUGCAUUCAUUGUUGCAUCAGAGUUCUUCUUUUCUUCACUGAUCUCACUCUCUUUAUCUUCCAUUUCCUUCCCUUUCUUUAUCUCUUCUUCUUUCUCAACAUGUGGCUUGGGUGUUGGCUGCUCAAUUUUUUUACCACUCCUUAGAGUGAUCAAGGCUUUCACAUCUUUCACCUGUGAUGAUUCUCCCUCUUGGCUUUCCACUUCAUGGACACCUUUGGGAUUUUGGUGAGGUUGAGAAGGAAAUCUUCCCUUUUCUUGCAGUGUAUUCAAAUUUGUAAGCCUUGAAAUUGAAUAUUGGAUGUUAUCAAACUUUUGGUUCAUAUCAUUUUGCAUUCCAUCCAUCCUUUUAUUCAACAUACUCUCCACUCUAUCAAUUCUUUGAUCGACUCGAGCAUUAGUGGCUUCUUGCUUUUCAAUAAAAUCUCCCAUUACUUUGCUGAGAUUAGCCAUUGCUUGUUCAAUACUUGAAGAUUGCUGAGAUGGUGGAUCCGGCUGUUGGUAUUGAGUUGCUCUGGCCUUCCAUGAAAAAUUUGGAUGAUUCCUCCAACUUGAGUUGUAGGUAUUUCCAUAUGGCGCAUUGUUAUUAGGCCUAAAUUGUCCAACAACAUUUGCUUGAUCUCUAAACAUUUCCCUUUCAGUUGGAAUUGCAGGGCAUUCCUCCACCAAAUGUUCAUAUGAUUGACAAUUGGGACACAGCUUCACUUGCACUGGUGCUUCAGCAACAGCUUGCACUUCAUGUAUUCUUUUCAACUCCAGCUCCUCCAAUCUUCUUGUCAUAGCUGCCAACUUUGCUUUCGUAUCAUCAUCUUCUUUCAAGGUAUACAUCCCAGCCUUUGCAUUGUAAGCAUUCAACUGAGACUUCAUUUUUCCCACUUCUCCUUUAGUUGGUUCAUCCCAUCCCCUUGAAACAUCAGCUACAUAGCUCAAGAAAUCCAUAGCUUCCUCUGGAUUUUUGCUCAUGAAAUCUCCUCCACACAUUGUCUCGAGGAGUUGCUUCAUUGAGGAUGACAUACCAUCAUAAAAAUAGCUCACCAAUAGCCAAGUAUCAAAGCCAUGGUGAGGACAAGCAUUUAUAGCUUCCAUGUAUCUUUCCCAACACUCAUAGAAUUUCUCAUUCUCUUUAGCUGAGAAGUUUGAAAUUUGCCUUUUCAAGCCAUUUGUUCUAUGAGUGGGAAAAAAUUUCUUGAGGAAUUCAGCUUGUAAAUCAGUCCAAGAGCGGAUACUCCUUGGCCUUAAAGAAUUAAGCCAAAUUUUGGCCUUAUCCUUUAAAGCAAAAGGAAAUAACUUAAGCCUCAUCAAAUCAAUUGAAGCUCUUCCCUCUUGGAAUGUAUUACAAACAUCUUCAAAUUCCUUGAUGUGUGCAUACGGAUUCUCACUUUCCAUCCCAUGGAAAGUUGGUAGAAGUGGAACAAGAUACGGUCUGAUCACUAGCUGCUCUGUAGGGGGCACUAUACAUGAUGGUGCACUCAUACGAGGUGGAUGCAUGCGGUCCCUCAUUGAUCUGAAUUCAUUGAGAUUAUCUUGACGACCUUGGUGACUAUGCUGAUCUUCAGGUGUAGCUUCCAUGAUAUUCAAGAUUACUUCAAAUUCUCCCCUCUGAGGUGUAUCACACUUAACAAGCCUUCCUCCACUGUCUCGUAUCCACUUUGGCAUACACAACUAGUAUCCAGCUACAACUUGAAUAAAAAUAAAGGACAACAAAAGAAACAGGGCUACAACAAUAAAACUAAACUAGGCUAAAUUUUAAAUGAUAAACUUAGAUUAUAAAUAAACAAAGAAAGAAUGAAAAUUAGUAAAGUGAAAGAAACUUUACCAACUUGUGAUGAAAAUCACAAGUGCUCAAAAAUGGUAUCAAUAUAAACUUGACACUCAUUCCCCAGCAACAGCGCCAUUUGAUUCGUCCUUAGCAACGGAAGUGGCAAUGGCACCAUCUGAUUCGGGGUUCGAUCCCCAGCAACGGCGCCAUUUGAUUCAUGCCCAAUUGGUGUCUCAGCUGAUUUGUGUCCAGCUGGUGCUCCUUGAUUGAGGGAGUAAUCAACAAAAUUUAUAACCUAUAACACCAUAUACUAGGGUAGCAAAGACAAAGCUACUAUAGUAUAGUGGCUCUAGGAUCGUUCACUGGGAAUGAUUAACAAACAAUCAAUGAUACCAAUUCCAAGUGAAUUGGCCUUGUUUCAUUUCAAGGUUAGCUUAAGAAGUAAAACACAAACUUUGAUUGGUAAAGGUUUAGACUUAAACUAACUAACAUAACAGAAGUUUGGAAUAAUUUAGGAAGAAAAGCAUUCCUUGGAGAUUUAGGUUCACUGGGGUGGUUCCUCAUGCAAAAGACACGGCUUUGGUUAGAUGGUUCAUUUCCUCGCAUUAGAGAUUCAACAUAUAGUCAAUUCUCUAACCGGUGAUGUACAGAGACUCCUUCAAUUAGAUUUCACUUUAAUUCUCUCACUGAUGCAACUUGCAAUGGUUUAAGCCUCUCACUAAGCCUUAACCAUUCAAGGUGAUCUUUAACCUUGGAUUACCCGUCAAAAGCUCGCAAGAGAUAACUAAUGGAUGUCUCCUAGGAGUCCAAAAGCUUACCAAGUGUUGGCUAUUCUAGAAAAUCCUACCUUGAAGUCACCUCCCAGAGGCUCGCAAGUGGUAAACUAGUGCAUUUCCAUGGUUGGAAAUCACUUGCCUUACCAAGUGUUGGCCCAGGUGACUCCAAGGUGUUUUAAGUUAACUAAAAACAUAGAAAUCAUUGAAGGAUUUCACUUCCUCUUCAUUACUAGCUAAAACCACAAAGCUUUGCAUUCUUGCACUUGGAACCUCCCCCGAAAACCUUAGCUCCAAGGAAUUAGAGGUUUAGUUACUCAUUCUCUGGGGAAAACUCCUCAGAGAGUUCAUAACUUAGUAAUAAGUAAAAAAUACAAAGUGAGAAGGUAAGGCAGUAGAAAGAAAAGAGACUUUACUUGCUUACCCAAACUUUUCCAGAAGGAACUCCUCUCUGAGAACAGGCUCUCGAGAGGUAUAUAUAUGAACAUAAUAUAAAACUAAUUAUUACAUAGAUAUUUAGUCUUUUUACUAACUUAAAAACUAAGGAAUCAUGUAAUUGGUGGUUUACAAGGAGUAUUUUGGGAUUUAGACAACAAAAAUCUAAUGGAAAAUAUCUCCCAAUGUCGGUAGCAAAUAUCGGGAGGCUUCAGGAACCAUUUCGCAGGAGAAAAAUGGUGUCUGCGAGAUUUCGCAGACACUCAAGAGGGCUGCGAAAUUAUUUCGCAACACCAAGCUAUCUUCACAGGGCUGCGAAGUUGGCUUCUACCUUGAGGUUCCUAGCUUCCUUCUCGCGGCAUAAAUCGUGCAUCGUCAGAAGGAGAAACACCUUACUGUACAAAAAGGCUGCGAAAUCACUUCGCAACAAAAGGGUGAUUUCGCAACACUUUGCAAAAUGCUUCCUUCAGCUCGAAGUGAUUGUCUUGUAAUGGUUGCAACUUCUUCGUUUCAACUCCGAAUUGCACACCAUUUGAAGAAUUGGAUUGUUGACUUCCUGAGCUUUGAAAUGGUAUAUAGCAUGCAUCAUUUGGACUUCAGAAAGUGCUCCAAAAGUGGCUGCUACGACUGUCAUCAAGAAUAUGCUUUAUGGCAUAUUCUCUUUACUUUUUCUCCUUGCAAUCCGGAUUUACUAUUGUCAAAUGACUUCUCAACUUUGCCCAAGAUUCCUCAUAGCUCUCCUCAGACUUGACUUGCUUUGGUGAUCAAAAUACUAACAAAAACACCAAAACUUACACAAAGUGAUUAAAAUUGCUUUAAAGGAUCCUUAACAUGCCAAUUGAGUUAAAAGGCCUAAACUACUACUCAAAAGUGUUUAAAAGGAUUAAUUAUAGGCUAUCAAAUAGCACUUUUUGAGUAGUAAUCACCAAUAUUAGUCCACCUAUAUUCAACAACCUUUCAUUGCUCGAACCAGUAUGCAACCACAACUGCCAUAUCCCAGAGCCACUAGAUCCCAUUCAUUACUCAUGUUCCUAUUCAUAUUUUUUUAUACACGUGAUCUUUAUCAAAGAGGGGCAUAUUUGUACACCCUCCAUUCUAUCUUCUUAAUACAAGCCCUAUUAAGUGUUCUUUCAAUAGUCCGCAAUGGUUCCCUAGUGGCUCUUUGCUGCUCAUAUAGCCUACAUUUUUCAGUCACUUUGGAGACUUUGGUUGAGGAAAUUAUUAUACCCCUCAUUAUGACCCUUGGCAGAAUUGAGUUAGAUUUAGGUUUUUAUUUUUUCUUUUUAGGAUAGCUCCUUUAAGUACAUCUCUAGGAUAGAAUAAUUAGGCAUCAUUUUUCGACCACCUUGGCCCAUUAAGGCACAUCCGACCCCUUUAGGAUCACCCUAACCCAUUUAGAUACAUCUGGCCUAUUUAGAUCACCUUGACCGAUUUAGACACAUUUGGCCUAUUUAGGUACAUCCAACUCAUAUAGGUCAUCCUAGCCCAUUUAGACACAAAUAGGCCCAUUUAGGCACAUCCUGCCCAUUUAGGGUCACCCUAGCCUAUUUAGACACAUCCAACCUAUUUAGGAUGACCUUGUCCCAUUUAGACACAUUUGACCCAUUUAGAAUUACCCAGGCCCAUUUAGGCACAUUCGACCCAUUUAGGUCAUCCUAGCCCAUUUAGACCACUUAGACCCGUUUAAGCACAUUGGACCUAUUUAGGAUCACCCUGACCUACUUAGGCACGCCUUGACCUAUUUAGAUCACUUGGCCCAUCUAGGCAUAUUUGGCCCAUUUAGGAUCACCUAGGCCAAUUUAGGCACAUUCGACCCAUUUAGGUUGACUUGGCCCAUUUAGAAACACCCAAGCCUAUUUAGGUCACUUAGGUGCCUACUUAGGCACACCUUGGCCUAUUUAGGUCACUUAGGCCCAUUUAGGCGCAUUCGACCCAUUUUGGAUCACUCUGACCCAUUUAGCCAUAUUUGGCCCAUUUAGGAUCAUCGUGCCCCAUUUAAACACACCUUGGCCCAUUUAGGUCAUUUAUGCCCAUUUAAGAACACAUUAACCCAUUUAGGUCACUUAGGCCCAUUUAGGUACAUUUGACCCAUUUAGGAUCAUCCCCCAGCCCAUUUAGACACACCUAAGCCCAUUUAGGUGACUUAGGCCAAUUUAGGCAUAUUUGGUCCAUUUAGACACUUUGGGCCCAUUUAGGAUCACCUAGGCCCAUUUAGGCAAAUUCGAUACAUUUAUGAUCACCCUAACCCAUUUUGACACAUUCGGCCCAUUUAGGAUCGUCUUGGCCCAUUGUAGCACAUUUGGCCCAUUUAUGAUCACCAUGGCACAUUGGGCCCAUUUAGGGUCACUUUGGCCCAUCUAGGCACACCCUAAGCCCAUUUAGGUCACCCGUUGUCUCACUUCUUAUUGCAUGGUUUGUGUGAUUGCAUUGUUGAACUUCCUUGCAUGGCUUGCAUGACACUUUGUUUUUUUUUUUUUUGUUAUUAUUAAUUACUUAUUUAUUUUUAUUUAUUAUCUUGCCAUUAUUUAUUUAUUAUUUAUCUAUUAUUAUUUCAUCAGUUUCUGAAUUAUUUUUAAUUACUAUUCAUUUGUUCAAUCUAAUUUUUUUUUUUUUUUUUGUGUUUUUGUAGGGAAAUUUACCAAAGAGAGAGCCAACGGAGAUGGAAAAUAAGAAUCACCAAAAUGAAAAAGGAAGAUAAAGGCAAAAGAGAGUAAAACUUACCAAAAGGAGAGGGGAUUGUGAGUUGCAUUAUGAAAGUAUGGAGAACGCAUUUUGGGAAGUUUAUCAAAGAGAGAGUGAAUGGAGGUGUAAAGCAAGAAUUACCAAAAUAAAAAAGGAAGACAAAACGAGAGAGAGUAAAACUUACCAAGAGAAGAGGGGAUUGAGGGUUGCAUUAUGAAAAUAUGGAGAACAUGUUUUGGUAACUGAGAAAUUCAGCACAUGGAGGUUUUGGAGUAAGGAGAGGAAGGAUUUGGUCAAGGUGGAAUUUUAAGAAAAAAGGAUAUUCAAUGUGGUAGGAAGGAAUGUUUAGCAUAUUAAGGAAGAAUGUGGGGAUUGGUAGGGGGGAAGAAGAACAAUUGCAAUUUUGAGCAUAAUUUUUAUAAAAUUUAUUGGAUGAUUGGUUUGUAUAAUUUUAAUGUUAGUAGAUUUUAAAAUUUUAUGGAAUGAUUGUUAGGUUAAAUUCCCAUCUUGAAUGUGUUUUAAAAAUUCGUUAAAAAAAUUAAAUAAAAAUUCUUUGAAUGUUUGUUAGGUUAAAUUCUCAUGUGAGUGUUAUUAUUAUUAUUAUUUAAUGCUAUAUUUGGUUGAAUUUUCAUGUCAAUAGAUUUUUUUUUUAUUAAAAAAAAAAUUGUUGAAUGUUUGUUAGUUUAAAUGUUUAUGUUAAUAUAUUUUUAAAAUUCAUAGGAUGUUCUUGGCAUAAUUCUUAGUUGCCCUUAUCUCUAAAACCUUUCUAAAAUAAGAAAGUCAUCCAAGAAAAUAAAAAUAAUAUAAGAGAAAGGCAAAGUUGCUGCCUUUUUUUUUUUGGGGGGGGGGGGGGGGGGGGGGGGGGGCCCUUUUUUUUGGGAAAAUUUUUUUUUGGCCCCCCCCGCCCCCAAAAAAAAAAAAAAAACCCCCCCCCCCCCCUAUUUUUUUUUGAGGGAAAAGGGGGGGAAAAAAAAAAAAAACCCUUUUUUUUUUUCCCCCCCCUUUUUUUUUUUUAACCCCCCCCUUUUNNNNNNNNNNNNNNNNNNNNNNNNNNNNNNNNNNNNNNNNNNNNNNNNNNNNNNNNNNNNNNNNNNNNNNNNNNNNNNNNNNNNNNNNNNNNNNNNNNNNAAAAAAUUUGAAUUGGAACAUGAGUAAUGAAUGGGAUCUUGUGGCUCUGGGAUAUGGCAGUUGUGGUUGCAUACUGGUUCGAGCAAUGAAAGGUUGUUGCAUAUAGGUGGACUAAUAUUGGUGAUUACUACUCAAAAAGUGCUAUAUGAUAGCCUAUAAUUAAUCCUUUUAAACAGUUUUGAGUAGUAGUUUAGGCCUUUUAAGUCAAUUGGCAUGUUAAGGAUCCUUUAAAGCAAUUUUAAUCACUUUGUGUAAGUUUCGGUGUUUUUGUUAGUAUUUUGAUCACCAAACCAAGUCAAUUUUGAGGAGAGGUGGGGGGGGGGGGGGGCGCUUUAUUUAGGGAGAAUUGUGUUUUGGGCCCAGCUAGGCCCAAAAAUUAAUAAAAGAUCCUCCAAACACCUAUAAUUGAUUGUAAGGAUAUAAGGUUGGAAUAGACAAAAAUACCCAUUUUUACUUACACCCAUCAUUUUGUCUUUAUACCACCACUCUUUACAUGCCCCAUCCAUAAAAUUCUCCUUUAUUUAAUCAUUUGUUUAUUUUUUAUUAUUUUUUAAACUCCUUUAAAAAUAAUUGAAAAAUCAACAUUAUUUUCUAUUUUUAAAUUAUAAAUAAAUAAAAAUUAUAUUAAUGAUUCAAAAAUUAUUUUGGAACAUACUUUUGAAAAAAAUAUUAAUUUAAAUGAAUAAAAAUUAUUUUUUACAUUUUACAAGUAAAUAAUUUAAUGAUUAAAACACUAUUUAAAAUAAAUAUAUUUACUAUUUUUUUUCUUUUAUACUAAAAACUAUUUAAAUUUUUUAUUUAUUAUUAUUAUAAAAUAAAAAGCUUAAAGUUUUUUUUUUUUUAAUCUUUUUCUUUCCAUAGUUUAAUAAUUUUUUGAACAUAGACUUUUGUAAUAAGUUAUAUGAAUGUUCCAAAUUUAUUUAUUAAGGAAUUUUUUAAUGAUUUGAAUUAAUUGAAAAUUUAUUGAAAUGAGAAAAAAGAAAAAGAGAGAAAGAGGAUAGAUGAAGAGUUUUUAUUUUAAAUAUCCAACUAAAAUGUUUUCGUAUUUAGAAAUGGAUUAUAUCAAUACAUAGUAUAGUAGAGAUUGAUUUUGAACAUAGACUUUUGUAAUAAGUUAUAUGAAUGUUCCAAAUUUAUUUAUUAAGGAAUUUUUUAAUGAUUUGAAUUAAUUGAAAAUUUAUUGAAAUGAGAAAAAAGAAAAAGAGAGAAAGAGGAUAGAUGAAGAGUUUUUAUUUUAAAUAUCCAACUAAAAUGUUUUCGUAUUUAGAAAUGGAUUAUAUCAAUACAUAGUAUAGUAGAGAUUGAUUUUUUUCUCAUACAAAGGGUUAAAUGAUAUGUUUACUCAUUUUAAAUAAAAACAAGUAGUUAAAAAUUAUAUAGAUUAUGUUUGAGUUUGGUUUUAAAAUAUUUUUUCUAGUUUUUAUUAUUUUUUAUUUUAAAAAAUUAUUUUUAUUUUCUAUAUUGUCUCUUUUUGAAAAUACAUUUAAUUAAAAAAAUGAAAAAUAUUUUUAAAAAUGAAAAUUGAAGACCUUGUUUAAUAUUAAGAUAAUAAAAAGAAUUAAAUUUCAUUUAUUAAUUAUUCUUUUUUAUUUUUAAAAUAUAAUAUGUUCACAAUUAAAUAAAGGAAUUGGUCAAUUGUAUAUUUUUUUCACAAAAAUGUAAUAUGUUCAUAAAAAAAUUGGAUUGAAGUUUUUCAUCAUUUUUUUAAUCAAACUACUAGAAUCAUGUUUAAUACAAAUAUAGGCAUAUAUGCACUACGGGAAUAUGAAAUUUGUGUCACUAAACAAGAGUAUUUACUAACUGUAUAAGGGAAAUGUACUAAGUGUACAAGCAGUGUAUAAGAUUACCAUUUAUAAAAGAUUUCAAUCUAUUUUAAACCACUCCUUUAUUUUCCUUGUCACCCACAAAUUGAAUACUCAUGUCAUGCAUUUUAUUUAACUCCCAUAUGGAAAUUCCGAUACUUUCCCCAAUAAUGAUGUUUGGGAAAAAAAAAAACUAACCCUAAUUCAUCCAUCCUUUUAUUAGUUAAACCAUUAGAAAUAUGGUUAACACACCUACAUGGACAUAUUACUUAGGAUAGAUAUAUUGUACAAUGGUAUUACACUAAUUGUACAAGGGAAAUGUACUAAGUGUACACGGAAAAUGUACUAAGUGUACAAGGGUGUACAAGACUAUCAUCUAUAAAAAAAUUUAAUCGAUUUUGAAUCACUUUUUCAUUUUCCUUGUCACCCAUAGAUUGCAUACCUACGUCAUGCAAUUUAUUUAACUUUCACAUGAAAAUUUCGAUACUUUUCUUAGUAAUAAUGUUUGGGGAAAAAAAUUUAAUCAUAAUUCAUCCACCAUUUUGUUAGCCAAACCAUUAGAAAUAAGAUUAAUAUAUUUACGUGGACACACAACUUAAGAGGGAUAUAUUGCACCAUUGUACAAUGAUGUUACACUAACUGUACAAGGGAAAUGUAUUAAGUGUAUAAGGGAAAUAUACUAAGUGUACAAGGGUGUACAAGGCUACCAUUUGUGAAAGAUUUUAGUUGAUUUUGAAUCAUUUCUUUAUUUUUUUUGUUACCCAUAAAUUGUUUAUGAAAUUUGCACUAUUAUAUAAGGGUGUUACACUAACUAUAAAAGAGUAUUCCACUCACUGUGUAAGGCAAUGUACUAACUGUAUGGGGUAAAUGUACUAAUUAUACAAGGGUGUACAAGGUUAUUUUUUAUGCAAGAUUUUAAUCAAUUCUGAACUAUUUUUUUUCUUGUCACCUAAGGAUUGAACACUUUUCCCCCACACAUUCCUUCACCUAAAAAUUGUUUUAAUUUUAAAUUUUAAAUUUCGUCAUCCAAAAUUUGUAAUUGCAUAUUUCAUUUAAGUAGUUUUAACAAUAUUUUUUCUUACUACAUUUACAUCCUAUAUAAAGGAAAAUUAACCAUAAUAUUUAGGUAUUACCUUUUUUUUUUGUGAAAUCAAAUUAAUAUAAAUGGAUAACACAUUAAUGUCAUUGUUUCAAAUAACUUAAGACAAUAUAAACAACAUAUAAUAACUGUUGAGGAAAAAUUAUGAAUAUUUUUUUACUAAACUAUGUCAUUUAGAUCUUCUCUACCAAAAUUAAAACAUAGGAAAUAAAAUUAAAAUUAAUCACAUUUAAAGUGUUUAUUACAAGUAAACCGAAUGAAAUAUAUAUUUUUACUAUUUUACCUUUAUAAACAUAAUGUUAGCAGAUAUUAAAAAAAAUCAUAUUUAAAUAGAAUUAAAAAGGAUAAAAAAUUAUCUUUGUAACAUUUGUAAUUUUUUUUUUAUAAAAAAUCAUUAAUUUAAAUUAUCAAGUUAAUUUAAAAUAUUUUUUUGUUGUAAUUAUAGUUUUAAAGAUUCUACGAUUUUUAUAUUAUUACUUUUAAUUUAUUUUCUUUGAUUUUUUAUUUUAAAUUUCAUCUAAACUUGUUUUUUCUUACAUUUAUAUGUUUUCUAUUAUAUCCUUAUUUAAAGUGAUUCUCAUCUAAUUUGUAUUCCAUUAUAUUCUCUUUUCAAUUUUAAUGUGUUGUUAUACCUCUUUACAUAUCAAAAGAUUUUAUUAUUUUUCAUCUACAAAACUUUAUACAAAAGAUAUCAUGUACGAGGAAAAAAAAAUAAAAAAAGAGAAAAUUAUGAUAUAAUUUACAUACACAUCUCUUAAUAUGAUACAUUUACUUGACUUAAUGACAUCAUGCUUUAAUAAUUUAAAUCAUGUCAAGUCCACAUCUAUUUUAGAUUUAAAAAGGCAUUUGAAUAUUUUACAAAUUAUUAAGUUAUAAUACAUUAUUCAAUUAAAAAUUAAUUAUCACCAUUAGUUAAAAGAUGAUCAUGUUACAAAAUAAUAUAUUAAAACAAUAUCAAUGUAUUGUCCAAAAAAUAGAGAAAAUAUUCAAAUAAUUGUCUACAACCUUAAAGAUAUUUAUAUAUAUAUUGGAUAAAAAAGAAUAAUAAUAUUUUUUAAGGUGCUUAAAAAUUAUUUAUUAUAUAUUUUGUAAGUUUAAAAAAAAAUAUUUUAUGAGGUAUUUAAAAAAAAUUUACUUUAAAAAUAUAGUAAUAAUCCUUUUCAACCAUUGAUUACCAAUAUUUAAUUUAUUAGGCAUGGUUUUUGGGAGAAAAAUAAUUGAUGAAAAUAGUAACACCUUUCUAGAAAAGAAUUAAUUUACAUGUCCCACCGAUUAAUAUGUGAGAGAAAAAGAUAAGGUGAAUGAUGAAAGAGAGAGGGAAAAAAAGAAUGAAAGAGAGUGGGAAGUUAGUUGUUUUCUUUUUCUUUUUGACAAUAAAGGGCAUUUUCGGAAAAUUAAAUAUUUCAUAUCCUUCUUUUUAAUUUAUAGAUUUUCUUUAGGUGUUGGGUUUAUGAAGAUCUUUUAUCAAUUUUUGGGCCCAGCUGGGCCCAAAACACAAUUCUCCCCUUUAUUUAUUUAUUUAUUAAUUUAUUUUUGUCAAUCUCCUACAAGAUGAUAUCCCACUUACACCCUUACGCAACAAGAGCGCGUGGGACACCCACUUCGACCCAACAACUUUAUGAUGAAUCUGAACCCUGUGGACAAUAAUACCAUGUGCAUAUAUAUAUACGAGCCUGUAACACUCAUUUAUAAGUUUAAAUUCAUUCAAAUGAGUCAGUAGUAAAAGCUAUGAAAUAUAUCGAACCCCACCAUUUUUUUUUCUUUUUUUUCGUUUUUAAAUUUUCUGGGGUCCCUCAGUUACUUUACAGAAGGUGGCAGAGAAAGAGAAACGAAUAAUCACUUUCCAUGCUGUUGUCUUCUUGUUGUAAGGGUAAAAUAAGAGGCAAAGAAAUUAAUGAAUUCAUUAUCUUACCUUUCUAUUGAAAUGCCUUCCAAGAAAUGUUUUGAGAGCUUUGAGUUUAGUCUAGAAUAAUGGUAGUAUAUUUCAAUGAAUAUGCAUUCUAGAAAAAUAUAUACCUUUAGCAUAUACCAAGAUAUCCUAGGGUUUCAAGUCAAGUAACAACCAAUCAAAACAAAAUCACUCUUCUUGGAAAACAUGGAUGUUCGAGUAUCCAGCUCUUUUCUUUAAUUGUGCUAACAUCGGCUCUCUCUCCAGCAUGCCAGUGUGCGUCCCAGGCAGCUCUUUUGUGCUUUAAAUGAAUUGAAUUCUUGAUCUUAUUCUGCCAUUGUUUUGGCUCAAACCUAAGAAGUAUAUUUACCCUAACUUCUUUUCAUGUCUUCAACUUACUCAAAGGCUCACAAGUCCCAUUGGAAGUAAGCAGUUAAGGAUUUUUGAACUAAAAUUAUCAAACAUAGUCUAAUAGGUUAUACUCUUUUCAACAGUUUAAAUUGUUUUUGUUGAUAGAUUAUUUGAUUUUUCUCCUAGCUGGCCCAGUUGUUUAUUUCAAAGUGCAGUUUAGAACAACUUUCAACAUUUGAAUAAGGAAAAGAAAAUAUAUAGAUGAAUUGACUGAUUCAAAGGGCAUAUUACAGUCAGUCUGUGCGUAACAGGGCGGGUGACUUCAAAUGGAUACACUGAGGUCUAUCUGUGCGUGUUAGGCAUUCAUGAACCUGUUUUCUUCGGUCAAAGAGCAGCCAAUACAAGGAAAAAACAUGGCGAAAAUUAAGUGAAGUGUGACUUCUGGAAGAUUUAUCACCUUCGUAAAUGAAGUGAGAGUUUUGACCGAAUUGAAGUAGAAAAAUUAAAUACAAUGGCCGGACCGGCUCCAACUAUUAAGAUUAUAAGUGCCACACAGAAAGAACAGAAAGAACGGUCCUAGUAAAUGAAGUAUAAAGACAUGUAAACAUAAAAUUGUCCAGGUAAAUGAAGACAUGCAAUGAAGAAGAAAUCUGUUGCAGACUACACAAAUCACAACCACAUAAAUCAACCACCCACCCAUUUUUCAAACUUCCAGCUCUCAUGCACUGGCACAGUUCGGUCCUUUCAAAGAUUAAAGUAGGCAUCUAAAAUUUUAUUGGUUUCAAGAAAUUUGGUGCACUAGGCUCCUAGAAAUUAAACAAUUGAAAAGUAAAAACAGUACUUUUCAAAGUGGAAGUAUACUAAUUUCAAAGUGGAACUACCACUGAAAUCUAAACCUUUGGUUUAAUUUUAAAAAGAGGGAAAAAAAAAACAGAAAGGAAAAGAAAAAUAGUUAGGAAGAGAAGAGCAGAAAACAAACAACUGCUUUAGGGCAGUAUAAAAAAGUUGGCCAUAAUUUGAAGAGAUCAGCAAACUUUAAUACUAUGAUGAAAAGUAAUAACUCAUAUCGCGGAGCAAUAUCAUCGGAGAGGCUGAUUGGUCUUGAAUAUGCUUCUUUUAACAUCAUGGACAUCUCUUUGAAGUCCCCAUGUAAUAGCCUAUAAGAAUUCCCAGCCAGGCCUUGCUCUCUAAGGCAUCUUUCUAACCUCUUUGGCCUCAACCACACCCAAUUCAGUAGCCUCCAUAAACAGCUUAUGAGCACAGUAAGGAACCCAAAAGAAAUUGCAAUUGAGCUAUGCUUCAUUUCCAGUUUGAGGGACUUGUAUCAGGAGAGGUGUGUUAAAUCACUUCAGAGUGAGAGAAGGACUUUAUGCUGCCGAUAUGUAUAAAUUGGCCCCUAUUCUAUUCCCUGGUGCCGGCGAACAUAGAAGAUUUCGUCAAUGCCUAAUGGGGAGAAGAAGGUCUAGUAUUUUAAAAUCUAUAAAUUAUCUAUUUUAAUUGUCUCCAUCAAUAUGGCUUUUAAACUUCUCAACGAAUUAUUAAGUUAUUCUAUUUGAUACAUUUCAAAGUUUGUGCAAUCAUCACUGCUUAUUAAAAACUAUAUAUGCCAUGAAUGUUGAAGGCAAAAUUUGAGCAUACGGAAUAUGGAAUUCUAUUUGACGGACCAGCUUUCACUUGUGAGUCGAUGGAGCAUGUGGAUGCUCACUUUCAGAGCCUCAAGGGGCAGCUCGCAUCCCUCACAUCUUGGCAGAUGUCGCUGGGUGCUUUCAGCUCUACAAAUCCAUCUGACAUCGAAAUAUAUGUACUUAGAAGCUAUUUUAAUUAUCAACACCAUAGAAUUGGCAUCGAAAGAAAAAUUAAGAUUUAACCAAUUCUACAGAUAACUACCAAUUCAAUUAUGCUUUGGGCACAAAUGACUGAUAAAAAUUCAUCCAAAAGUGCCUUAACUUGAAACGUCAUAGACUAAUUUCAACACCUGAAAAAAAAGGUAAAAAUUUGGCAUAAAUUAAAAGUUAUUCACAGCUCCCAGAAAUUAAACAAUUGAAAAAUAGAAACAGUCCUUUUCAAAGUGGAAGUAUAUUAAUUUCUUGAUGAAAGAAAUUGCAAUACUGUUAGCAAAGAUUAAGAACUAGCAGUGAAAUCUAAAACUUCGGUGUAAUUUAAAAAAGAAGAGAAAAAAGACAGAAAGGAAAAGAAAAAUAGUUAGGAAGAGAAGAGCAGAAAAUAAACAACUGCUUUGGGGCAGUAUAAAAAAGUUGACCAUAAUUUGAAGAAAUCAGCAAACUUUAAUACUAUGAUGAAAAGUUAUAACUCAUAUCGGUACCAUAUUUCUUAAUGAAACGACAAUGGAAGGGCAGGACACAUAGAGCAAUAUCAUCGGAGAGGUUGAUUGGUCUUGAAUAUGCUUCUUUUAACAUCAUGGACAUCUCUUUGAAGUCCCCAUGUAAUAAUAGCCUAUAAGAAUUCCCAGCCAGGCCUUGCUCUCUAAGGCAUCUUUCUAACCUCUUUGGCCUCAACCACACCCAAUUCAGUAGCCUCCAUAAAUAGCUUAUGAGCACAGUAAGGAACCCAAAAGAAAUUGCAACUGAGCUAUGCUUCAUUUCCAGUUUGAGGGACUUGUAUCAGGAGAUGUAUGUUAAAUCACUUCAGAGUGAGAGAAUGACUUUAUGCUGCCGAUAUGUAUAAAUUGGCCCCUAUUCUAUUCCCUGGUGCCGGCAAACAUAGAAGAUUUCGUCAAUGCCUAAUGGGGUGAAGAACGUCAAUGCCCCUAUUCUAUUUUAAUUGUCUCCAUCAAUAUGGAUUUCAAAACUUCUCAAUGAAUUAUUAAUUUAUUCUAUUUGAUACAUUUCAAAGUUUGUGCAAUUAUCACUGCUUAUUAAAAACUAUAUAUGCCAUGAAUGUAGAAGGCCAAAUUUGAGCAUACGGAAUAUGAAAUUCUAUUUGAGUGGAUGCUCACUUGUGAGUCGAUGGAGCAUCAUCACUGCUUUCACUUGUGAAUCGACGGAGCAUCAUCACUGCUUUCACUUGUGAGUCGAUGGAGCAUGUGGAUGCCCACUUUCAGAGCCUCACGGGGCAGCUCGCAUCCCUCACAUCUUGGUAGAUGUCACAGGGUGCUUCCAGCUCUACAACUCCAUCUGAUCUGGACUUUUUGAUACUUCAUGUUUUUUAUUUUUUAUUUUUUAUUUGUGGAUAAGUUUAUUUUGUACACCUAACCCAUCUUGGCUCAGUUUAUCAUAUAUUUUGUUUGUCUAGAUGUACUUUUAUUUUCUUAUCUCUUGUAUCCAGAACCUUUUUUACUAUAUAUGUCCAUGUGUUUGCUUUUCUUAUCUCCUUUUCAUAUGCUUACUGCUUUAUCAUGCUCUUUGUCAUUUUUUGCAACAAAAAGGGGGAGAUGGAUUGUUGAUUUGAUUAAGUGUUUUGACAUCUGUUUCAUGACUUGCAUCCCCUUACUCGGUUACCUAAUUUGAUAAAAUUGAUCAGUUAUCUUUCUUUCCACACUACUUUAUCUGGGUAUGUUGUUUAGUUUGUGCAAGUUCUAGGUACUAGGGUAUUGCUCAUUUUUUGGAUGUGGCUUCUAGUCCUUUGCACGUUAAAUGAUGAAUUGGUUUAGACAAGAGCUAUUGAGAGAUUUGUAAACUCCAUUCGAGAGUAUUAAGGGGUUUAUCCAAUUUGUAUUUUAUCACAAAAUUGCCAAAGGGAGAGAUUGUUCGUACAUCAGGCAAUGUAGUUUAAAAUUGUCGAUUUUGUUCUAUUCAUUUUGGUUUAGGAUCUUUCUAGAUUGUAUCACUCCCCAUUGAAGACUCAAGGUUAUAAUUAAUUGAUAAACCAGAAUGACAUAGGUAAGUGUAAAAAGAUUUGGAAAAGGCAAGUUAGUGUUUGGUAUGAAAUGGCAUGAAUUGAGCGGUUUAAAAUUGAGCAAAAUGAUUUUCUAACCGGUUUAAAAAAUGCGUAAAGCGCUUAAACACUCUAAGAGCAUUUGAGCCCUAGCAACAUAAUUCUCUACAACUUUGGAGAUCUAUCUUUCUAUUUUUAAAGGAUUUAUUUUGAGGAACUUUUUAGAAUUAGUCCACUAGGUUCCUAGGCUUAUAUAUAUGUUGCAUAAAAAGGUUUUUAGUUUGAUGCUUCUGAAUUGAAAAACGAAGUUUGUCUUUCUGUUCCCAAAAUUCUAGAAGAAACUUUCAUAUUUGCUUCUACCUAGUUGAGAAAGAGAUUUGUAUCCCCCUCAAGUGCUAAAGUGAAAUCCUCUAGGAGCAUAUUAGAUGUUGCUCAAGUGCUAAAGUGAGAUCCUCUAGGAGCACAUGAGAUGUUGCAUUGUAGACGUAAAACACAGUGUAGGUGUUAGGUAGUGAGUCUUAGUAGUAGCUUUCAUAAGAUAAAAUUGAGUACAUACCCCAUUAUAUAUGAUGGAGAGCUCCUCAAAUGCAAAUCCUAGAAUCGAAUCAAUUUUUACUAAAUUAACAGCCAACCCAUAUUUCAAACAAAAUCUUGCAAUUUCACAUUUUGAGCACUAAUCCAUGAAAAUGGUGUUUUUGGGGAGAAUUUCAAUUGAUUUAAGUGUAUUUGAAGAUGAUGCAACAAGAGAAGGCUAAGAGGAAUGCUAUUUUUUAACAUGUAAUUUUAUUUUAUUUAAAAAAAAAACAUUUCAAUACCAAUUUCAACAAUUGCUCUAUAGAUUUUGAUAAUGACCUAGAGAAGAAGUCUUUGUUGAAAUUUUUAUGACACUUUUAUCUUGUAUCAAAAGUUUUGAUACUAGUUGCAAAUUUUGUUAUCGUUUGCCAAGAAUUUUUCCAAUUACUUCUCUUGUUUACUUUUAUGACAUUUUAGGGAUUUUCUUGAUGUUUUAAGGUUAGGUUACAAGUAUAAAUACAUUCCUUAGAGAUUUUUAUGAGGAGGGUGAAUGAAAAACACAUAUAUUUAAUUUCAUAAUUUUAGUACUAUCUUUAUUAAUUUAUUUAAUUCAAUGCAUUUUGUUGGAAUGACAAUGAAUGGCUAAAUGCCUCAUUUUUCUAGAUAAGGUGGAUCUCCUAAGGAAAAAUCUCGGUAGAGUGCAUCUAAGGCAUUAAGAAAAGUUAUCCAAGUAUAAAAUCCCUCUUUCCCAUAAAUUUUGAAAAGCAAAAUAACUCGACCAAGGUUAGAUAUAUCCAAUUCAUAUUAGAUUCAAUGAGUGCUUCUUCACAGGUUAGGAAGUGAAUGUGAAAAAGUGUGACCAUCAUAGGAGUAUAUUAGAUCUUAUCCUUCCCUUCUUGAGACUUGAACUUAGGAGUAACCUGUUUUUGGAUGGCUUCAAUAUCACUAAUUGAUUAAUUUCUAUGUACAAUAUGUUUUUCUAAAUUUCAAACUCAUAAAAAUUCCAUCCUUUUAUUUCUAUUAGAAUAACAUAAAUCAUAUGGAAGUUAGAUUCUUAAUCUUAAGUCUUCUCAGCAUCAAGUAUCAACUAUAAGAACUCAAACUCAACACUUUAGUGGCUCUAAAGAGUCUAUUUAGUGCAUUUGAGGUAUUUAAAAAUGACCUAAUGCUUGGUUUUUUUAAUUAUUAAUGCCUUAGCCAUUUGCUUUUGAUAAUUUUUGUGAGUAUUUUUUAAACUUUAAGGCAUUUUGAAAAUAAAGUAUACUUUGUGGAGGAUUCUCAAAGAAUAAAAUGCCUAAGAAGAGAGCAAGAACAAAUUGUGUACCUUUCAGGUACACAAGAGUCUAUUGUGCAUCCCUCAAGUGAUCCAUCAAACUAGAUUGCACACUCCCUCUAGCAAUUUAAAUUGAGCACCUUUCCCACGAUUCAAAGGUUGCAUGCCCCCUCAACAAUUAAACCCAACAAGAGCACUCAACUUGUGCAUGUUCGUAACAUCUUAAUUGCACUUUUCCCUACCACUACAGUAGCAUAUCCCUAGGGUCACUCACUAUGCACACUGUUACCACUCUUGUAAAGGUUGAGCGCUUGAGAAAACUCCUUCCAAUGAUUUGUACACUCACCAAAGUAAUGUAAGCAUCUAAGCCUUAAGUCAUCAUCUAUACUAUCAAUUCUCUCAUAUUGAUUGCAUUGAAAGCCAAGUGCAACCACCAACUCCAAGUUGACAAGUCAAGUACAAGAAAGAUGGCUAGUUGACUACAUUGACACAUGAUCUGAUCCCCAAAAUGGGCAAGGGGCAGUUCUAGGAGAAUAGUUUGAGCAAUAAGAAUGGAUUACCUAAAGGGAAACCCAUUUAUAAAUAGAGGAUUGUCUGGGCGCGCGCCCACACACACACACACACACACACAUAUAUAUAUAAUAUGUAUGUAUGUAUGGGGAGAAAAAAAAAAAAAAAUGUUGAAGAGUUAGAAUCUUUAAUGGAGAUGAUAUCAACCUUUUUAGGAUUUAGUUAGGAAUUUAUUUUGGUAAUUAAAAUGACAAUUAAUAAUUUGGAUAGGAUUUGUUAAGUAGUUUCCUAUUUCUUUCUAUAUAUUUUCCUUAUUUUUUAUUGUUUCCUACAGUUAUAUAUAUAAAGGACAUUUUUCUCUUCUUUUCUCUAUGAAAAAAAAUACAUGACUAGGUAAAAUUAAGCUAUAGGUUUCUUAAUGGUAUCAAAGACAUCUUCUGGUUACUAGGAAUAAUGGUUAAAGGAGCAAUGAGAGGUACUUCCCAUUACAAUAACAACUUGAAGGAGGCAAAAAGAAAACCUAUCCCUCACUAGAAUUUUGUGACCAAUGGUCAUGUUCACUCUUCUUAGCUAAUUACCUCUCACAAAUUAACUUAAUGGAGAAAAUUAUCUUUAAUGGUUUCAAUUUGUCAAACCUUUUAUUUGUGGGCAUGGACAAAUUGAAUAUUUUAUUAAAGCAACAUCAAUACCACAAGGAACAAUUCUCAUCGAGAAAUAGGAAGUAAAGAAUGCCAUGAUUAUGUCAUGGCUGAUCAACUCAAUGGAACUCAAGAUUAUGAAGACAAACAUGUUCAUGCCUAUAACUAGAGAGAUAUAGGAGGCUACCAAGGAAACCUAUUAUGACUUGGUAACUUGCUCAGGUCCACACGAUAGCUAUACAAAUAAAAAAUACCAAGCAAGGUAAUAUGAAUGUAAUUCAGUACUAUAAUACACUCAAAACUCUUUGGUAAGAACUUAAUUUGUUCUAUGAUUAUGAAUAACAUUGUGCAUAAGAUAGUGAAAUGUUCUAAAAUAUGAUUGAGAAAGAUCGAGUCUCUGCAUUCCUAGUGGGGUUUAAAUCAGAAAUUAGAUGAGGUUUAAAGUUGAAUCUUAGUUUUGAAUAAUUCUAGCAAAAUCUGAUACCUCUUCACUUAACACUGCCCUAGCUAUGAAAAACCGUAAGCUUCACAUUUCAGCUAAUGAUCCAAAAUUCAAAAGGAUCCAUGGAAAGCCCUAGUGUGAUCAUCAUCUCCUCUAAAUGCUUCCAAAAUUCAAAAUAUUCAUUAACAAGUGAUUAACCAUCAUCUUUUCAAAAUGCAUCUUUAGAUGUCAUAUGCCCAAAGGUGUUCAAAUUCGUAAGAUAUUGACCAAGUCCAAAUAUUUAGAAGAAGGUAUAUCAUCCUCUACAAUUAGAAAGAAGAAAAUACAUUAUCCUUUACUAGUGAAAGCACAUAUGCCAUCACCUCAACAAAUCAAGCAUGCGUGCAAAUCUGUCUUAUUGGUCUUCUAAUUGCGGUUGAGCAAGUAUUAAGGAAGUACUUAAUUUGAAGCAUCUCUUCAUCAUCUAUAGUGGUUGUAGUUUCUAAUCCAAUAAUUGUACUCCUUUGAAAGUGGUACAAAUUAUUCUUCCUUAUUCCUUGCGUUACCACAAGUUUGCUUGGCCUAACUUUCACCCAUAUUUUAUAGUAACAAUAUUGAACCCUAUGGGUUAUAAUACUCUCAUUGAGAUGAGACACUUAUUCAUUCUAGGAACAUACUAAACAUCACUCAAAAUUUUAGUUGAUUAAUCACGAGUCUUCAACUGGAUGGUAUCUAUUAUUGUUAUCUCACAAACAUUAUCAUUCCCCAUGUAAACAACUCCAUCUUGGAGUUCUUCAAAGCAGGAAAACCACUCCUUGUAGGAAUGCAUGUGAAGGUGGACCCAAUAUCCAAAAUCCAUUCAUCUAAGUUAUAAAGCAAGGAUAAGGAAACCAAAGCAAAGUUUGAACCAUCUUCUCCAAACUUAGCCAGACAAGCAUCUAAUACUAUCUCUUCUUAAUUCUUCUUCUAUAACUUAGGACAAUCAUUGUUCCAACACUACCAAAAAUUAAGUAUGGGUGACCCAUUUAUAUUUACUUUUGCGACGAAUUUAAGUUGAUGCAAAUUUCUAACACACCUAUUAUGCCGCAAAUUGAAUUGUCUAUUGCUUAUAUGUAAUUAUUUACCAACGAUAAUUGUAACAACAGAUACUUGUUGGAAAAAAUAUUAUUGCAAUGGAUUUAAACCAUUGCAAAUGUUCAACUAAUAUACUUUGUCACAAAAGCAAUUUACUUAUUAAAAAAAAAAGAAAAAAAAAAGAACUUUCAUAAAUAAUUUUUUCUAUGAAAAUUACUACUUAAUAAAACAUUUUUAUUAUAGUGGAUAAUAAUACCACACAUAAUUUAUUCCAAAAAUAAUUGUUGUCUUAUGAAUAUAAAAUCUUUUCACCAUAGUUGUAUGAUAAAUACGAUCUAGCUAGUGACAAAACAAUUUUCUGAUCAUUUUUUAGGUUCAUACAAUAUUUACAUUUUUUUAAUCAUAAUAGUUUUAAUAUUUUUUAACUACUUUUUAUAGUCCAUUUUAGAAAGAAAUAAAUUAAAAAUUAUUGAUAUAUAUAUAUAUAUAUAUAUAUAUAUAUGUAUAAUAUAAUUUAUGAUAUCGAAUACUAAUAUUUAAAUUUUAAAAAUACAUUUUAUAGAGAUUUAUCUAAUUUGAAUGUAUUCAAUAACAUAAAAAAAAAAAAUUGAUAGUACAUGCAUAAGUAUUUUUAUUUUAAAAUGUUGAUAAUUUCAUUUAUAAAUUUAUAUUUAUUUUAUAUUUAAUUAUUAUACAAAAUACAAAAGAAUUAAAAUUAAUUAAUUUAUAAUAAUUUUAUUUUAAAUAAUUUAUAAUUUAUACUAUAUAUAUAUAUAUAUAUAUAUAUAUAUAUAUAUAUAUAUAUAUAUAUGAAUUCAUGCAUGUGUAAUUUAUAUAUAAUAUGUAUUUAUAUAUAGAUAAUAUUUAUAAUAUAAAUGCAUAAGUAUAGGAUAUUUACAUUUAUGAAUCUUAUAUAAAUUCUGUAUAUUGCACAUAACAAAGUUACUUGGUAGCAUAGUUACUUCCUUUCAAACUUGAGGUUAAGGGUUUCAAUCUUGAGAAACAACAUCCAAGCCAAUAUCCAAAACUAGAAAAGAGAUGAGUGUCCAUGUGAAUGUAAUGAAAUCAAAAUUUCAUGACAACCUAAAAUAUUUUAUUAUUUACAUUUCUCAACCAAUUUAAUCCGUUGGUAAUAGUGAGAGUCCAAAUCCAUUGGAUAGUUUGUCACUAAAUAUUUUUUAUUGGCAAUGGAAAAUUCCCAUCAAUAGAGUUUUGUCAACACACCUUUCCUCGAUUACCAUGUGAUGGGAUUAUCGAUUGGUAAAUGUUUAUUUCGACCAUGUAUAUCAGUUGAGAAAAGUAAUAUUUCUUGUAGUGUGAUGACCCUUGUCAUGAAAAGGACACAUUCAUCUUUUGCAAGUAUACAUUUAAAUUAAGAAUUGUCUCAUUUUCUAGGUUUUCAACUUUGAGAUUAGUCAUUAACUAUUGAAGCUUCCAAUGAUAUAUCCCAAUGAUUGCUUUGGUCCUUCUUUCUUUAUUCAGAGCUUAGCGAAGUGGAACGCACAACAUCAAAAGGAAUCUUAUCCUUACCAUAAAGUAAGGUGAUGGUAAGAUUUUCAUACACAUCAAGAAGAAAAUUCAAUAACAAUAAGGCCUUAUUCUCAUCUUCAAUGAUCUCAUCUAAAUUCAACAAAUUUGCUCUGAUUCUAUCAUAAGCAUGCAUAUGAUCAUUCAUAGACAUUUGUUUAUACUUGAAGCAAAAAAGUUUGUUAUUCAAAUAUAGUUGAUUUUCUAGACCUUUUUUCAUAUACUUGUCCUCCAAUGUCUUUCAUAAAUGUUUUUGUAGAUAUCUCUUUCAUAAUGGAAUAAUUUUAAGCUUUAACAAGAUAUAAGUGGAUGGAAUUAUAAAAUUGACAAUUGAUCCCUUACCCAUUCUUUAUCAUUCAUGUUUUCAGGUUUUUCUUCCAAAAAAAUAUCCAAAUUCUAUUUGACAUAUCUAAUUAAUGCCUCUUACUGCCACAUUCCAAAAGUACUAGUUCUAUCAAAUUUCUCUAUUACAAAUUUCACAUUAGUAACCAUUGUCUUAACUAACGAAGUUUUUGACUUUUCUUUUAACUAGUGCAAUAACAAAUAACCUUGAAACCAACCUUGGAUAGAACUAAUGCUCUUAUACCAUUUUGUUGUGCUUUAACCUAAUCCCAGAAGACUUCCAAAAAUACUAAAUAAAAUACAAACUAAACUUUAGUCCAUAAUAUAAAGAUAAAUAGCAAGAGAAAUAAAAAUAAAAGAUGAUACACAAUAUUUAUGAGGUUUAGUAAGGAUAUCUUACCUAUAUCAUCAGACAAUGAUGAUCAAUCCACUAAUCUUCAAAUCAAAAUUACAAAAUCAAGUUGGGAAAGCUUGUCUCACAAAGUGGUUGCAAUUACAAAGAUUGACUAAAACCUUAAAGAUUGAUUGAAGCUGCUCUAACAACUUUCCUAAAGUCAUUCUCACACUACCAUGAUGAAAGGACUUAGACUCAUUUAUAGAACCUGAAUAAGUCCUCGAGCCUUGAAAAAACUAAUUCAUAAUUCCUGUGGGACACGAACUCCUAACAUAUAACAGAUUAUGAAAUCAUAAUCCUUAUAGGACAAGGAUCCUUAAAAUAUAUUAAACUCUUAAUUGAGCUAAAAGCCAAUGCCUAAUAUAGAACUCACACCAUAUUUGCCAUAACUCUACUAAGUAGUUGGUUGUUAAGCAGAAUUAUCAGUUUCAAAGAUUAAAUAAGCCUUUCUUUUUCCUUCCCUUUCCAUUUUUCUUAUCAUCCAAACAACAAUGAUAAAAAAUUUAGUGUAACUUUUGUUGCUUUGCUACUUGUUCUCUCAACUUACUUGCCUGCUUGCGAAUGACCUCCAAAAUCAAAGUAAAUGGGGAAAUAAUGUGGAGUUCCAAGAUAUACAUAGAAAAGAGUGGACAACUAGAUCUACAACAUAGCUAGCAAUUUUGUCUCUAAAUUUCUCUUUGUCGUGGUAAUGGCCAUUGAAGAUGUCAUCACUGAGAAGAUCACAAAGUGAAGAAGGCAUGAUUGAGGGUUGGUAGAGUAGAGAGUUAAGGUAGAAAAUAACAAAGAUAGGAUUUUGACAUUUUUAGAAUUUGUAAAUAAAAAAUAAAUACAAUCCAAAAAUCACUUUCAGAACAUAAUUUUACUUGACCAUGGCAAACACGUUUUUUGUUAUGUGGAUUGUACUUGAUGUUCUUGAAAACAUUGAAUGCAUUUUGGAUUGACUACUAAACAUGACCUUAGUAAUUAAAUUAGCAUAUUGAUAAAUUAUUAAGAGGCUUUUAUCAAUUUGGUCAACUCUUAGAAAAGUGUUGUUGAAAACACUAAAUAAAAUCUAUAUAAUUUUUUUUUUUGAAACAUGCUUGACCAUACCAAACACAUUAUUUUUUAUUUGGAUUGUAUUUAAUAUUUUCAAAAACACUAAAUACAUGCAAUUUGAUUGACUGCUGAACAUGAACUUAGUAAUUAAAUUAGAAAUUUCAAAUGAAUUAAUGUUUUCUAUUUUGCAAGCAAGUCAAGAUUUUAUGUUUUCUACUAAAAUUUUGAAUGCAUCACUAAAAGUAACAUCACCACUUUCUAGUUAUAAAGUUUUAAGAAUAUAUUUUUUAUCAAUACAUAUGGUUGUUUUCUUUCGUGUCAAGAUACGAAAUACUUUUUUCCUAAAAUUUUUCCUUUUUACGCAAAUAAUAAAGUGGGGUUUUUUCUUGAUUUAUUUUUUAACAUAGUUUUCCAUUCUAUAUUGUUAAUAUACCAACACUUUUCAUUUUUUUCUUGAAUUUUGGAUCUUCCUUCAUUGUUUGAUGAACUAUUUCCUUAGCCAUAACCAUGAUGACCAUGACCAUGAUUGUUUUGGCUUCCUUCAUACCAAAUGUUUUUUUGCCCUCUUGUUGAUAUAUUAAACUACGUUGACAAUUUUCUAUUAUUUAUAUAUUGAGUCUGAUACAUCAUACUUCCAAGGGUCAUACUGAUGUCAUUCAACUUCAAGCUACUUUUGAGUUAACUAUAUUACAAGGUAUAUGUGCAAAAUUAGGUUGAAUCAGGGUACAAGGAAUGGCUACCACAUGUAUGCUAGGUGAAAUUUUAGAGAUUUUUUUUUUUUUUUUUUGUCAAGGUUAAGGAUUUGAAUAACUAAAGUCUCAAUAAAGUCUUUGAGGUAACUAAGGAGCACAAGGAGUGUUGCAUGGGGCAUGGAAGAAGAAUGUAAGUUACGUAUAUCUUAUUUUUAUAUUUAAUAGAUUGUUUGUGGUUGAUAGACUAUUCAUUGAUCUUUACACCCAAAAGGUUUUAAGCGGUUUUUUCAUGUUACAUUUUGUGUCAUAUGUUUAAUUGAUUAAUCUUAUUCAAGGAAUUGAUGAAAACUUAAUUAUAAUUGAUAUAGCUAGAUGUUUAGGAAUGUUUCAAUUUAAAGUGCUUUUAAUUGAAUUGUUUUUUUUAGAAGCAUUUUUAUAUAUUAAAGAAUCACCUCUCAAGCACUUCUCCAAAAAGUAUUACAAGUGAUUUUUAACUUUAUAAAGAAUGCUUUCUAAGUUUUUCCAAGCGUAUAGUUUUUCUCUAAAAGUGUUUUCUUUUUAAUACUAUAAGCAUUUUCGAAAAGUACUACUAAAUGGACUCUUAAUUUUUGAGGAUAUUUCACUUAGACAGCCCAUUCAUCCCUCUCUCUAUAUGGUUUUGUGUCUCAAGAUAAAAGCUCUCUCCUUUAUUUUAAUAUAAUCUUUGUUUGAAGAAUUAUUCUAAUUUUUACUUGACUUUUGUUUUUAAUAUGUCUUCCUAGGCUUUUAAUGAUCCCAUAAAUUGGUCAAUGACUAUAGAAUCCAAAUAUUUAGGCCUUUCAAUAACAAAAAAAAAAAAAAAAAGAUGAAAACUUUUUUUUUUUUAGUUACACAAAUAUCAUUAAACUUUCCCCAUUUAUUUUGACUUAAUUUACAUAUGUCAAUAUUUUUGGAAAAUAAUCAAAGAUUCUCUUAUAUUUAAACUUAAAAAUUCACUUUUAAAAGUAUGAAAUUGAACUUUUUUUUUUUUUUAAACUUAUCAAACUUUUAUAUUUAUUUGUAAUAUUUUUCAUGUUUCCUUUGAACUAGUUGCACUUAAAAUCAUUUCAAAGGUGUCUACAUCUAUUUCUUAAUAAAUAAGGUUAAAAGCUUUCUUGUCUUUCUUUCUUAUAUCUUCAAAAAGUCUAUUUAAUUUUGGGAUAGAUUGGUUUUAUCCUAUAGCUCCUUGUAGUUUUUCUCUACAAUCUAUUAUAUAUCUUGCAACCAAAUAAAACCUUUGUCUUGAAAUUCAAAUAGUCAAAAUUGUUAAAACAAUCUUUAUUGAGUUAAGCAACUUAAUUGCAUUACACCUUUUCCGAAAAAUAAAAUAAAAUAAGAAUCAUAUUAUAUGCAUAAAUUUCAUGAAAGUCCUGCAACCUAUAGGGGGUAGGCCUUGAAGUUACAGUGAUAAUUUAUUCCACUAAAAAUUUUGAUCUCUACAAUUAUACCUUUUUUUUUUUUUGGAGUAAUAGGGAUAAAUACACAAAUAAUAGUACUAUUAAAAGGGAUAAGUAGAGGAAUUUAAAAGAAAUUUAUUGUGUUUUUAAAACUUUAAUUCAAGUAUUAUAUACAAAACUCCAAUUACAAUAUGUUUUAAUUCACUUUUUAAAACUAAUCAAAUGUAAUUUUUGAAAACUUCUCGAAACUCAAAUUUCGAUUUCAACAUGUGAUUGAAUGAUAGGGAUGAUAAAAAAUAGGUAAAUAAAAUAUAUGUAAUAUUAUUGUACAUUAUUAACCGCUUUCAUACCAUUAGCAUAUCAAUGGCAUCUUGCUAAGAAGAAUAACCACCGACAAUAGUCCAUUAUAAUUGUUUCAGAAUGAAUGACAUUUAUUUGUUCGUAUUCUAUUGUUUUGCUAUUUAGGCCAUAUUCACUUGAACUGACUUUUUGUUUGGAGUAGUGUUUUAGUAGAGAAUUUGUAGGAGGACACCUAGAUUUAGCCUAUGGGUUGCCUUAAUUAAUGGUUUUGGCACAACUUAACAAAAUUCUAUGCUAUCAUAAAGUAGCUGAUUGACCAUGAUUGCGCAAUGCCAUCAUAAAGGAACUGAAUGCCCAACACACAUACAUGUGAGGUACCAUAUUUUUUAAGAAAGACAAGUCAGUUUGCAAUUGAUGUUAAUAUCUUUCCAAGGCGGAGACAUCAUUUUGUAGGUAUAAUUGAAUUAGUUAAACUUAAAGCCCAAUUGACAUUCUUUCAAGUAAAAUCAUUUUUAACCUAUAAUGCUCAACACUUUUAUUAUGAGAAUCAUAGAAGUAUCAGAAUCGUAGAGAAUCUGAGAAAGUGAUUCUAUAGUGUUGUUGAUAAUAUGUCACAUGACUAUAAAAUGUUUUUAAUAUUAGUAAAUUAUCAAAAAGGACAUCAAAUUUAAUUACAACAAGGAAAUAUUAUAAUAAACUAAUAAUUUUUCAUGAUAAAAGAAUAUAUAAACAUUUAUAGUAAAAGAAUAUAUAAACAUCUAUAUUACUAACAAAAACUAAAAAAAAAAUAAUAGUUCUGGUGAUUACAAGAAAAUUUUAGAGAAAAUUUACAACAUGAUUUGGAUUAAUAAACAAACAUCAAUCAUAAUAUAAUAAUUUUCAAAAUAAAAUAAAUUAUUUGAUUAUUUAUUCACUUAAAAAUAAUAUUUUUUUAUUACUACAAAAAAAUUUUGAAAAAUACUUACAAAAAAUCUAGAUUAAUAAUGAAGAAUUGAAUAAAAACAUAUUAGAUUUUAAAAAUAAAUUAGUAAUUAAAAGCAAAUGAGAAGACAAAUUUUCUCAUAGAAAAAAAAGGAGAAAAUUGUAUAUAUUUUUUCAUAUUAGUGUUAUAAUAAAACAUCAACAAAAUAUAAGAAGACUAGCAAUUCGAUCACGUUCUUUUUACAUCUCUCUUGCAUGAUAGAACCAUCUUUCUCAACUCGUAAAUUCACUAUAAUCUCUUUUUUAUUAAGUAGAUGUAACCCUUGAUCAUCAUCAUAAGGUUUAAAUUUCAUAUCUAUUCUAACAUUAAUCAUUAUUAAGUUGUAAAAACCAUCAAAGUAAUAACAAUGUUCACUUAUUUUUUAAGAGGAAAAACUAUGCAUUUCUCAUAUUGUUCCACAUCUGUUCUUCAAAAAGGCAAAUGUUCAAUUGUUCUCCUCAAAUAUGUCUAUGGUUAGAUAUUUCCUUCUUACCUCUUGGUAAACUACUCCAUCAAAAUUUGGAAGUUGGUAACACUCGCCCUCUAAGGGCCUAAUUAUAUAUCCACUCAUUUAAGGAUAACCAACAUUGAGUAAAUAAUAUUUACCUACAAAACAAAAACAAAAUAUUAUAUAAGAGAAUAAAAAUUUAAUCACAAAAGUAACUUUCAUAUUUUUAGUCACAAAUCUCUAGAUGGAUGAGGAAAACCCAAUUCUAGCAUUUUUUUUUAAUGCCCCUACAAAGACGCAUGCAUCAUGAGCAAUACCUCCCCAUCUAGCCAAUGCAAAUGUGAAAUACAUAUUGAAAUAAUAUAUGGCCAUAAUAUUUUAGGUAGUUAUGCUUUUUGUACCAAUAUGUGAUAUUUGCCUAUCUCUAAAAAUCAUAAUGGGCAUAUGAGUUCCAUUAAUUACCCCUGUACAAUUCUUAAAAUAUGGCCAAUAACGGUCAACAUUUCUUAUUUUAUCAAGGAUCUCCCUAAACUAUGAAUCACUUGGUUUUACAAUAUCCAUAGCUAUAAGACAAAUAACAUCUAAUAUAAUCUCAAACCAUCUAGAAAUAAAUUCAUUGGAGUGUACCCUCCCCCGAUCCACCGACCGGCGUGACUCACAAUUGAAACGAUAAGUAGAGAAAAAAAUGUUUUCCAGUUUUGGAAAAUCCAUCCCAACGAGGGAUGGUUUUUGUUUGGAGUCGCCACUUACUUUUUAUUUUUAUUUUUGAAAUGGGAAAAAUUAUGGAAGAACAAAAACCCCUCAAUGACUCCAGUUAGGAAAAAAACGGUCUGCGAAACUAGAUUUCUAGGUCCGAGGAUUAGGUUACCUAUCAGGAAGGUACCUCAUAUGAGGUAGCACCCCUCUAGGCCCGAAAUCUGGUCUCUACUAGUGAAUUGGGUACAUUGGAGCAUAUGGUAAAAGAUCAAUCAAUUCCCACCUCGAGCUACAUGAAUGACAAGACUUGCGCAAUUCUAGUUGGUAUUUGACAUGCUUAGGAAAUCGACAAUCAGAACAAAGAUGCGUACCUGAGGUCCCUAGUUGUGCGCUGAGAGAAAAGGUUAGUCAAUAAGCACAAGCGUACAACAUAUACAACCCUGUGAUUUACUAAAAUUUAGCCGCAUUCCUACUUGAAUUGAUAGAAUUUCUAGUCAUGACCUGACCCUAUACAUGUAACCUCUAAUCUUCGCUAAACAACCAUCAAAAUUGAAACUUAAAAAAUUAAAUUCAAAAUUUCAAGAUUUUUGGAAAUUUUGGGAACGGAAACUUGAAAAAAAUAAAUCCGGAGUUUUCGAAACUUUGGAAAUUUUGGGGAAUGGACUCUUAAAAAAAAUGAAUCCAGAAUUUUGAGCAUUUUGGAAAUUUUGGGAAUGGAAACUUAAAAAAAUUUAAAUAUGGAAUUCUCAAAAUUUUGGAAAUUGAAACUUAAAAAAUAAAAUCCGGAAUUUUUGAAACUUUGGAAAUUUUUGGAAAUGGACACUUAAAAAAAUUAAGUCUCGAAUUUUCGAAACUUCGGAAAAUUUUGGAAAUGGAAACUUAAAAAAAAUGAAUCCGGAACUUUCGAAAUUGGAAACCUUCAAUUUUAAAAGUUUUGGAGUUUUGGAAAAUUUGAUAGUGGAAACUUAAAGAAUUAAAUUUGGGAAUUCGGGAAUUUUGGUAAUGGAAACUUAAAGAAUAAAUUCUGAAUUUUGGAAACUUUGGAAUUUUGGAAAUAAAACUUUGAGGAUAGUAUUUAAAAAUGAAACUUUGGAACUUUGAAAAAAUAAACUUUGAGGAUAGUAUUUAAAAUGAAACCUUGGGAUUUUGACUUUUGGGAAUUUGAAAAAUUAAUUUAAGAAUGCCAUUAAAAAAAAAUUGAAAUUGCGGAAUUUUGAGAGUUGUGGAAUUUUGGAACAUUAAUUUUAACAAUGGUGUUUUUAAAAAUGAAAAUUUGGAAUUUUAAGAGAAAUGGAACUUUAGAAAACUUAUUUAAAGUUAGUAUUUUAAAAAAAAAAACUAGAUUUGGGAGUUUUAGAAAUGGAAACUUAAAAAAUUAUAUUCGAAAAUUUUGAAACUUUGGAAUUUUAGGGAACAGAAAUUUUAAAAAUUGAAUUCGGAACUUUGAGAAUUUUUGGAAAUUUUGGGUACCCUAAUUUUAAAAAUUGAAUCCGAAACUUUAUAAUUUUUUUGGAUAUUUGGGCAUAGGAAUUUUAGAAAAUGAAUUUGGAACUUUGUGAAUUUUUUGGAAACUUUUUUGGUAUGGAAAUUUUAAAAAUUAAAUCCAGAACUUUGUGAAUUUUUUGGAAACUUUGGGUACGAGAAUUUUAGAAAAUAAAUUCGGAACUUUAUGAAUUUUUAUAAAUUUGGUGUACGGGAAUUUAAAAAAAUGAAUCCGGAACUUUGUGAAUUUUUUGGAAAUUUGGUUACGGGAAUUUUAAAAAACGAAUCUGGAACUUUACGAAUUUUUGGAAAUUUGGGUAUGGGAAUUUUAGAAAAUGAAUUUGGAACUUUACGAAUUUUUUGGAAACUUGGGUACCGGAAUUUUAAAAAAUGAAUCCGGAACUUGGCAAAUUUUUUGGAAACAUUGGGUACAGGAAUUUUAAAAAAUAAAUCCGGAACUUUAUGAAAUUUUUGGAAACUUUGGGUACUAGAAUUUUAAAAAAUGAAUCCAAAAUUUGGCAAUUUUUUUUGGAAACUUUGGAUAUGAGAAUUUUUAAAAAAUGAAUCCAGAACUUUACGAAUUUUUGAAAACGUUGAGUAGUGGAAUUUUAAAAAAUGAAUUCAGGACUUUACAAAUUUUUGGAAACUUUAGGUAUGAGAAUUUUAAAAAAUGAACCCGGAACUUGGAGAUUUUUUUGGAAACUUUGGGUACGAGAAUUUUUUAAAAAUUAAUCCGGAACUUUACGAAUUUUUAGAAACGUUGGGUACUGGAAUUUUAAAAAAUGAAUCCGAAACUUUACGAAUUUUUGGAAACUUUGGGUACAAGAAUUUUAAAAAAUGAAUAUGGAAUUUUACGAAUUUUUGGAAACUUUGGGUAUGGGAAUUUUUAAAAAAAUGUUAAGUUGGAAUUUUGGGGAAUAUUGGAAAUGAUAUUUUAAAAGUUAAGUUGGGAAUUUGGAAAAUUAGAAAUGUUGGAAAUGAUAUUUUAAAGGUUAAGUUGGGAAUUUGGACAAGUGGAAAUGUUGGAAAUAAUAUUUUAGAUGUUAAGUUGCAUGUGGGCUGUGCAUGGGAAGUGCAUGGGCUAAAUGGGAGGUGUAGACGUAUGAGAGGAGUUGUGGGGAGAUGUAUUUGAUGGCUGUUUGAAGACCCUGAGCUUCCUGUGAGCUAUAGGAUGGCUUUAAGCUAUAUGUGGGUUGCACUUGGUGGCCAUUUGGAGACCUUGAGUUGUAUAUGGGCAGUAGGGUGGUUUUAAGCUGCAUGGGGGCUGCAUGUGUGACCUUUAGGCUAUGUGUGUGGGCUAUAGGUGUGAGGGUAUGGAGGCCAUGGGUGCAUGUGAGGAUUGUUAAGAUAUGGACUCGCAUAUCUAACAAUAGUUCAUGACUAAGCUACUCACCCUUAAUGUAUUUUUUUUCUAUUCGUUCUAAGUAUGGGCCAUCUCAUGUGUAGAGCCCGAUACCGUAUAUGUCUCAAAUGAUGGGCUUAAGACACAUAUGACCCAAUCUUUGCAACGGAAUGGUACCUAAGGCAGGAGGGUAUAAAAGGAUAAGUGUCAGUUCUUGAACAUCACAACUUUUGAAAAACUAAACUAAACUCGUUCUCUCCUACUCCCAUCGUCAGAGAGAAUACCAAAAAGAGGUGGUACCCUCCAUAGCCUUAGAAGAUCCAUACCUUCUUCAACACCCAAAAAGAGGCGGUGCCCUCCAUAGCCUUAAAAGGCAUGAUUUUAUGAAUGAAUUGAUAUAUAUACAUCUAUCUUGUAUGCAUGUUUGGUGUUAAUGGAGAAGACAGUUUAUUAUCAAGGAUGAGGUGUGAACUGUACGGAUGUCAUGGUGGGGUGUGAGGAUGUAUGUGGUAGUGUGGGCUGCACAAUGGGUGGGUUGUGGGCUGUGGGAGAUGAGUUUCGUGAAGAAUGAACAGUGGAGGAGGUAGAGAGAGAAGUGGGUUUGGUGGGUGUGGAAGAUGAAAACAUGGAUAUGGUGGUGUGAAUGAGCUAUGAGGUUACAUGGGUUGCAUUGUGAUGGUAUGAACGAGCUGUAGGUUGCAUGGGCUGCAUGGUGAUGGUAUGGAUGAGUUGUGAGGUUGCAUGGGUGAGCCAUGGAGGUUAUGGGUUGCAUGGGUGAUCCAUGGAGGUCAUGGGUGCAUGCGUGAACUGGGUGUGAGCUGUGGGUGCAUGUGGGCUGUAUGUGGAAAGUGUGAGUGAGCUUUGUGUGGGAUGUGGGUGCAUGUGGGCUGUAUAUGGAGAGUGUGAUGCCUUUUAGGGCUAUGAGGGAGCUAUGGGACGGCCGUGAGGGGAUGAGGGCUGCGUGUGGACUGUAUGGUGGGCGUGAGUGGCCUGUGAGGGAGCUAUGGUUGCUGGUGAAGCGGUGUGGUGACUGUGGAGGCUGCAUGCGGGCUGUAGGUCGGCUUUGAGGGCCAUGAGGGGGCUAUGGGAUGGCCGUGAGGGGGGGUAAGGGCUGCAUGUGGACUGUAUGGUGGGCGUGGGGUACAUGUAUGGGCUGUAGGUGAUGUGCGGGCUGCAUCAUUUUAUCCUGUAUGCCAUUUUAGGUUUAAACUCAUUUUUAACUUAAAACAUCUGAAAUUAACCCAAAACCAUGGCGAUGGGAAAAGAGAGGGUAAGGAAAAAUGGCCCAGAAAGGUUUUCAAUUUUCUUUAAUUGCAUUCCAUAUCUCCCUCAUGAAGCAUCCCUUCCUCACUUUCAAAUUGUAACUUAACUCCAAAAGAACCCCAUCAAUUCUUCACAACUACAUAAGAAUAAUUGAUCACCUCCCUUGCCUUCCCUUCAGAAUUAGUUUCUUUGCAUAGACCAGUCCACUCACCAAGAGUUUUAUCAUUGAGUGCCGAUAUAAGGCUGACAUUAUGGUCAGCACAAAUAAAUUUAAUACAGUCCAGCUGAUUACAAAUCUCUUCCAAUACACACAAUUGGGCAGCAUGUUUUUCAAUCAUCUUAGCACUUUCGUGGAAGCUUCGCAUAGGUCCAACAUGAGCCAAUGAUUACCUUAAGACGGGUAUCAGGGCUGUCUUGAGGUCUAUGGUCUUACCUAGGAGGGGCACCAGCAGCCUCAACCACAACAACUUCAUCUCCAAACAUUUUCCUCAAUCAUCCCCCCUAGAUGAUCUUGGUGUGCAAGCUUACCCAUAUGAUUCUAACCGAGCAUGAGAAAUCGGUAUACAUGGCGUAUAGAACCAAAAACAUAGGACAUCGGGAAGACCAGACAAGAAGUUGAAACGAAAAUAGGGUAAAUGAAAACAAGGAUAAAACAAAGGACAUGCAAAAUAAUCACCAAUCCAUAUUCCAUAAACAGAGAGUCAAUAGACUUGUAUUAAGGAUGGGUGAGAAGAAUUUCCAGAAAUUAUCAAGAGGCUUAAAACAGAGUUCAAACCAAUCUCUGUAAAGCACAAUGAAAAUGGAACAUAAAAGCACUAUAACUCAGCCCAAACAAUCCAAAGAUCAGCCACUAUACAGCCUGAUACCUAUACCUAAAAUUAAUGACGAGCAUAUAGGCCUUCGACCACCAAAACAUCUAACAAAUGGAAUAAAUCUAGAAAAGAGUAGAUGUUUUAAUGUAAAGAACUUACCUCCUAGAAUAUGUGGAUUGUCCUGAAUCCUCAUUGCCUUGCUCUCUGUUCUGACUUUUUUCUCUGUUCUCCCUUCAGAAUCCGUUUUUCUUUCUUUCUCUCAAAACCUCCCCCUUUCCUCCAGAUUUUUCUGCUCCAGACCCCCUCUUUUUGAAACCUCCUCAACUUUUCUUCUCCUCUCUCCUCUUUUUUUUUUUUUUCUUUUUAUACCAGAAUCUCCUUUCUACCUCCUCCCAUGCCUUCUCAAAAUCCUCAAAUUCUUUCAAAAACUCUGUUCCACCUCUGCAAACUCUCCUUCCCAUAAAAAAAAAAAUCCUCUUCCUCAGGUCAACUUAUCUAUCUCUUCCCCAUUUUCCAAUUAAUUAAAUCCUUUUUUUUUUCAAAACCUUUGUUUUUCUUCUUUUAGCCAACGACCCUUGGAAUUUUUAUUUAUUUAUUUAUUUAUUUUAAAACCUCAUUUUCUGCACCCUUCCAUUUUCAAAAAUAUCAACCUCUUUUUUUUUUUUUUUAUGCACUCGAUUUUUUACUUUGCCAAGUCUUUUUUUUUUUAAAGUAAAUAAAAUAAAAUAAAUUGAAUAAAAUAAAAUAAUAAUAAAAAACAUAAAGUAAAUAAAUAAUAAUAAUAAUAAUGAUAAUAAUGACUUACCAAAAAAAAAAGCUAUUCAUAAAAAAAAUUAUAUUGAAACAUUUCAAAAUAAAUAAAUAAAUUGAAUAAAAUAAAAUAAAAUAAUAAAAUAAUUUACCAAAUUAAUAAUAAUAAUAAUAAUAAUAAUAAUAAGAUAAGAGCAAUAAUCACAUGCAAAUUUUUUGAAAAUAAAUAAGUAGGUGAAUAUAUAAAUAAAAUAAGAAAAAUAAAUAAAUAUCAAAUGCAUAUAAUUAAUAAUCUAAAUAUUAAACUAAAACACAAUAAAAAAUUAAAUUUAAAAAAAUUAUCAAAUUGACACAAUUAAACAUCGAAAAUUCUUUUUAGGCAAUCAAAAUCAAAAUCAAAAUCAAGAUCAAACCCAAUACUUACCUAAUCUCAAACAUCUAGCAAUCAAGAAAUUAAUCUUAGGGAAUUAACCCCAAAAAAGCAUCUAAGUGACCUAGGUGAAAAAGUGUCUAAGUGACCAAAGUGGAAAGUGCCAAGGUGAAUUAGGUGGAAAUUAAACUAAGGAGGUGUCUAAGUGAUCAAAAAUGCGCUAAGUGACCUAGAAGGUUUAAAAAAGGGCCUAAGUGAUGUAGGGUGAUUAGAAACGUGUUAAGUGGCCUACGAGUGUAUUUAAUGGGCCAAAUGCAUUUAAAUAGGCCUAAGGUGCCAAAGUGGGCCUAAGGUGGUGCCCAAUGGGUCACCAGAGAAUUAUUGAAAAGUAUCAAAUGGACACAUAAUAGAACAUGUGCUAGUAGGACAAAAUGGAGGGUCUACAUGGAAUGCUAAAAUCUUUCUUAGGUCGUCAUGUUGCCAAGUCUAUGACCUAUUAUAGUGAGAAACAUUGCUAAAGCCUCUAUUAAGGGCAUAUCCAAACCUUCUCUUAGACCAUGCCUUUUAAUAAGUGUUUCUAAUCAUUAAUGCAUACAUGUUUUUCCAUCCUAAAUUGCUCAAAACUCUAAUUUCGAAAAAGUUCUACAAGGUUUUUAUUUUUUAUUUUUGUAGUUAGUAAGUGUUACAGGUACAACACAUCAAACCAACACCAAUUGAUAAAAAACAUUUCACCAUUGCUUUCAUCUUUAAUAUUAUGAUUGCAACUAUUAUUAUAAUUAGAAAACAUAUAUACAAAAAAUAAAAAUAAGAAAUACAUUAAAAAAAAACCAAUAAUGUACAUUUUAUGUUAAUAUAGCUUAAACUUAUGCAUGUUUACUAAAAUAAAAGGAUUUUUUAUUUAAAAAUUUAUUUGAACAGGCCAAUUCAAGAGUAGUAGUAGUAGUAAGCAAAAUAAUAGCACUAAAAAAUAAGAGCAUAAAUACAUGUAAUCAUAUAAUUAUAUUUUUCCAUAAUAAUAAUAAUAAUAAUAAUAAUCUAGCUCAUGUGGGUCACCCUAGGAUAAGACUCCUCCCAUAACACCCCUAUUUUCAAUCCAUUUCUAUUCUUAAUAGCUUGAUUAAUUAAACAAAAUUUUAAAUUCGAAAGUGUUGUGUUGAGAAAUCAAAUACAUUAUAAAGCUCAUCUAAUUAACGACUUGACUGAAACAAAAUUUUAGAUUCAAAAGUGUUGUGUUGCAAAAUCAAAUACAUUAUAAAGCUCAUCUAAUGGUCACAACUUUUAGAGAAAGAAACAAUUAAAUAUACCAUGUGAUAGGCAUAUAUGUCUUCCUCACUCAAAAAUUUCACUCAAUACCAACAUACAAAUCCAAUUUAAAACAAUAUUAGGUAGCAAAAUAUGUUUCAACAUUAGAAUAAGAAAUAACUCAAAUAGUCAAACAUGUUUUUGCUUAUGUCGUGCAAUUUGAUCAAUUGAGUUUUCUAAUGUAAGAAACAUCUCAUUAUUUUCCUUGACAACUUGAAUAACUAUGACUUUCAUAUACAACUUAAGGUCAUUCUCCACUUCAAGCAUGCCACAUAUAACUUUUAUUACUUUAACCAUGCUACAACCAAACUUAUCUACUCUAGAUGUAACUUUAAAAAUGGGCUCUAACUGCAUAGUAAAAACACAAGAUUUGGUUCCAUCUCUUAUCUUCUUUCUUCUUCUCUUAUUUUGCCUUGAAAUUUAUUGCCUUGGGGUUCUUCUACAAAAGUAUCCAAUUCAUUAUAUUUCACAACCAAAAUAUAAAUUAACCAAAUAAACUUAGUAAAUAAAUAAAAAUGUAUCUUCAAUUUAUUAUCCUACCAUUCGUUUUUAGCAUUAGUGGUUUGUGUCAUAGGUUCCACCCAAGGCCAAUCUCUUUUUGAAUCAAGGCAUUCCAAAGUUGUCAAUCAUUUUUUAAGAGUACUUACUGUUAUAGUUGAACAAAAAAUGAUCUCUUCAAGAAUAUUUUAGAGACUUCAAAAUUAUAUAUGAUAAUCUUGCCGCAAUCAAAAGCUAAUUUCAAACCAAGACAAAGUUUGUUGAUUCACUCGUGGUUUAGGAUAAUGGAAUGAUUUUUUAUUUUUUUUUAAUCUACAAUGCUUUUCUAGCCAAUUCAUAGUAUCUCUUUAAGGACAUAAGCAAUCACUCACUCGAAAGAGAUGGAAAGAAAAUUUUCCUAGAGGAUGUACAAGUUUUUAAAGAAAAUUUUCCUAAAGGAUGUACAAGUUUUUAUUUGGACAACAUAGUUAUGGUCAUAAUGGUUAAAAAGGCGGAAAUUUUAAUUUGAGGGGAAGAAUCUUUACACUUCCUAGUGUUACGAUUUUUAUUUUUUAUUUUUUAAAUAUUUUUAUGAUUUUAUCAAGUCCUUGUCAAAGGAUGUCUUCACCAUGUUUUGAGAUAAGUCGGGUGUGCAUAUUCAUUCCCACUCCAACUUUAGCGGGCAUAUUAAAGGAAAGAAUAAAAUAAGACAAAAAGAACAUAGGAUGGCAACACGUAGGAUGAUAAAAAUCCGCUUCAAUUAAUAUUUCCAUAAAUCAAGAGUAAUCAAAUAUUAAAAUAUCUGAUUUUCCUAAUUUAGGAUAUAAUAUUUAUUUUAAAUAAAUAAAGAACAAUCAAAUAUUAAUAAUAUUUUAUUAUCUUAAUUUAGGAAAUAAUACUUAUUUUCCUUAAUUUUAGGAUACUUGUUAUUUCUUUCUUUGUAUAAUUCACAAUGCAUUCUUGUAUAAAUUUUCUAAAAGAAACAAUAAAAUUCAUCAUUUUCAUUGCCAAAUUAUCAAAUCCUUUACUAAUGACCUUAUGAUUAAAAUCUUGUUUGUUUGGUAAGCUAUGAAUUUUAAUGAUAUUCCAUCAUUUCUAGGCCUCUCAAACCUUCAAUUUAGUAGGGUUACAAAACAUAAUUUCUCAAACAGCAUUCUUUCCAUAGUCAUAUCUCUAGCCUUGCUAUAAACCAAGACCAUCAAGGACCAAGACACAACAUUCUUGUCUACCAUCUUGUCAAACAACUCAAAUGUUGUAUUUAUAUAUCCUACUUUAACACACCCAUCGAAUAUUAUGUUCAAACUAAUAACAUCUCCAUUUGGCAUUUCAUCAAAAGCCUUGCUCACCUUUUCUUGAUCCACAUGGGCAUAAAUCACUCUCAACUAUUAACACAAACAACAUAGAUUUUAGCCUAUUACAAACCAAACUGAUAUAUCACCCCUAGUAGUUGUAAUUUCCUUCAUUAAUCUCCCUCCCAUUUCCACAUCUCUUUUCUGACACAACCCAUAAAAAAAAUAAAAAAAAAAUCAUGACAUUUGAGUCUAGAUAGGAGAAAGCACAAAUCUCAGUGCACAAAAAUUUGAUUUCAAUCAUUCACAAAAAUUUAAUUUUAUACAUGGUAAAACAUUAUAAUAGUAAAAUAACAAAUUGAGAAGAACUUCCUAGGAAAAUAUAAUCAAAGGAAAACAAGGUAAUCAAAAGACUCAUAUAAUUUUUUACUUCCAUUUUCUAAGUAACUAAAUAGAAAUGUGGCAAGGAAAGUAUCUCUAACUAUGGAUGUAAAGAGUCAUUGUUAAUGAGAAAGGGGUGAGAAUUGGAAUUAUGAAAAGAGUAGAAGAAGACUGCUUGGACUAUGGAGAGUGAAGGAGAAAGAGAAUGCUUGUUGAAAGGGAAAGAGUGGGUUAUUGGGUAACACUUACGGUUAUUUUAGGUACAUUUGAAAAUUUGAAAAUUAUUUUUUAAAUAAUCACCUCUCAAGUGCUUUUCUAAAAAUCACUUCAAGUGAUUUUUUUUCUUUUAAAGGUUUUUAAAAGUGUUUUUGAAAAUUUUUCCAAACAUUUAUUUUUCACCCAAAAACCUCUUUUAAUUAUUCAAAAUGCUAGACGCUCUUCUUAAAAACACUACUAAACAAGUUCUUAAUAAGAUUUUAUUUAUUAUCACAGUUUCUUAGUCUUUAACCAAGGAUAUGUCUAUAUUAUAUAAUAAAAGCAAGGAUAUAAUUUUAUUCUAACUAUUUUUCAACCUUAUUUUCUUUAAAUAUCUACUAAAAUGCCAUUUUAUUAUUGUUCAUUGAUUAACCCAUUAAGAAUGGAAUUACUAUGAUUUCACCCCAACUCCAACUCUCUUUUCUACAAAAAGGAAAACUAAUUUUUUUUAGGAAUAUGUAUGGAAAGGCAAUGUUAUAGAUGUAGUUAUACAUGGAGAUUGAUAGAAGUGAUAGAAGCGGGAUCAUGCUAGGGUUUUAGAGCCAAAGAUGAUGGGUUAGCGAUGAUGGGUCAUAAGGGAAGAGAUGGAGAAGUUAGGAAUUGAGGUUAGAUUUAAGGUUAAGGUUAGGGCUAGGGUUUCAUCAAUGGAUGGUGAUGAAGAUGAAGAUAUGCACAUCCCUUGCAAAAUCUACCAAUAUGAUCCGUUUCUACUACAUAAUCAACUGAAAUUUGAAUCAAUUCUUCUUCUCAAACUAUGAUAAUACGAUUUUAGAUGGUUUUUGAUAAUGAUUUCUUUUCCUCUCAAUGAAACUGUAGAUCAAUUCUAUGUUACAACCCGAAUAAAGGAUCAUUAGGAUCCCUUAAUCUUUAGUUUCUAUUUAGAUUAGGGAAUAAAGGAUCCCUAAGGUCCGUCAAUCUUUAAUUUCUAUUUAGUUUCCUAUAUAAAAUAAGAAGAGCAUAAUGAGGAAAGAAAUGGAAAAAUAAUCUCAGUAAGAAAAAUUUGUUCUCUCAAUUUUGCAUCUUCUCCUUGAGUCAUAAGAAUUGGUAUUAGAACACGGUCUUGGCACUAAUCAUGGCGAAAGGGACUAGAGCGUAAGAACAACAUAGACUUAAAGAUACUAUUAAACAGUUGAAAGAAACAUUGGAUAAACAAGUGACUACCUUAUUAGAACUAUCAAAGAUGGUUGCAACCAUAAACUUGAAAUUCAAACACAUGAAUUCAAGGAUAGAAAAGUAAAGUAAUGGGUAUAAUGCUUCAAUCAAUAAAAGCAUGAUAGACUAUCACUCAUAUGUCAUAAACUCCAUUCAAACCAGGUUUUCCAAACUCAAUUUUCCAAAAUUUGAAGGUGAGAAUUGGGAAUUAGGAAAAGGUUGGAUUGGCUUCCUUACAUUUAAAACAAAGGGCCUUAAAAAGGUUUCAAGGGUGCGAGGCUAGUAACAAGGAAAUCAAUUGGACACUAUUUUAUAUAGAUGUUGUUUCUAGGUUUAGCCCUAGUGUUUAUGAUAGCCUUAUGGGGCAAAUAAUCAAAUUGAAAUAGGUUUCUACAGUUUAGGCAUACCAAAAUUAGUUUAAAGUAUUGAUGACCAAAACUAGUGGGUUAUCAAAGAAUUUUUUUUUUUUGUCUAGUGUUUCAUUAGUAGCUUGAAAAAGGAAAUUAAAAAUCAAGUCACCAUGUUUCAACCAAUCACACUAGCCCAAACCAUCGAGUUAGUCUUGUUGCAGAAAUGAAUAAUGGAGGUAAUUCUCAAGGAAUUCAAGGACUCUAACAAAAGUGGGGAGAGUACAGUGAACUUUACAAGAAUCAUAAUGAAUCAUAAUAACAAAUUACCACCCCUUAAGAAGAUUUUAGCCAUAGAAGUGUAAGAGAUGAAAAAAAAAAUUGUUAUUAUUGUGAUGAGAAGUAUGAUUCUAGCUAUAAAUAUAAAAUGAGUCCAAAUUUUCUAUUAAAUGGUCAUAAAAGUGAAGGGAACGCAACAUCUAAAGCUAAAAAUGAUAUCAAGAGGAUGAUAUUAUGGUUUUAAUCAAUGCAAUAUUUAGUUCACCGUCUCAUCAAACCAUGAGAAUCUAUGACAACAUAAAAAAGAAGGUCGUCACCGUACUAAUUAAUUUAGAAAGCACCCAUAACUUCCUUGAUCUUGUAGUGGCCAAAAGAACAAGCUGCUCAAUACAAACUACCAACCCCAUGAAGGUGGUAGUAACAUAUGGAACUAGAAUUGCUAGUGAUGCAAUUUGUAGGCAAUGUUAGGAUAGAACCCUUAAAAGCAUGACAUAAUGUAAUAAAUUUGGAAUUCAUUAUUUAUUUAAUGAUGUUCCAGUUUCACUUUUAUCUAUCCUUAUUCCAUGUAUUAUACUUUAUAAGCAUUUUUGUCUACAUCUUUUGCAUUGUAUGUGACUUAGGUACAUUAGGAGUUGUAUAGAAGAUCUAAGUCAUGAGUUCUUUGCAAAUAGAUGACUUAUUCACAACCAAUUCAUGGGUCUAGGAAACCCAUUAGAGGUUGUAGUGCACCACUUCCUAAUUGGAGGGAUGGUUGGUCUUGGCUAUUGGGAUGGGUUUCAUAUGAUGAGUGCACUAGUAUGUAUGAAUGCACAUUGGACAGGACCUAUGAUGAGUUAUGACUUAAGGCUAUCAAGUAGUCAUGAUUUCACCAAGUUGCUUCAUUAUGUUGUUUCUCAACCUUGAGAGAAUAUUAAGUUUGUGUUGAAGUUAGCAGUGGCUUCGACCUAUGGGUGAGAUAGUAAGAUGAUCAUAUAUUCCUUAUAGAUUUGAUCACUAUUGAUGGAUGUUGGUAGCAAUAAGUAUUCUCAAUAGAGGCACCAUGAUAUCUCUUAGGAAUAAGAUAGUGUGUCCUUUUGGGUGAUCCUAAGAAGGUGUGUUCAUGGAAACUGUGGCCAUAGUAGUUCCUUAGGUGGAACUUGGCAUAAGCUCUUUGAGAGCUAAGAUAUGUCAAUUUAACACACAAUAAGAGGAUUUGUAACUCAAGAAUGGCAGAGGUAGUAUUAAAAGACUGAUUGCUUUCACCUUGUUAGACUAUAGGCACUAAUUCAUGGGAGGACUGAACACAAUGGAUACUAGGUCACGGACCCAAGCACUUGGUGUAUCAUUGCUAUUUACAUAGGAUAUUGGAUUUCAGUUGGUUCUCUGUAGUGGGAUGUUGAAUCAAAUUUGGAAUUGGAUUAUGAGGGAACCAAUAUUCUUAUGGGUCCUAGUGUCCUCGCUUUAAGCUUAUAUACCUUGUUGGCACUGAUUAUGAGGGUCAGAUUGGCUUUAGGUUCACUUUUGUACAUAAGGACAUUUUGGUAAUCAUGCAAGAUUGCACAAAGGUAAGUGAACAAGGUUUUUGGAUUGGGUUAAUUGAUUAAUUAGGAGGCCCUAUUGGGUUAACUAAUCAAUUAUGACCCAUUUUGGGCUAGAUUAAGUGACCCAAUCCCUUAGUGGACUCAAGUCACUUAAGCCUAGUAGGAAACCCUACAAAUACCCCUUUAGGGGUUAGGGUUCAUAUUGCUUUUUCUAGAGAUCCAUCUUCCAUCCUUAGAGAGAGAGAGAGAUUCAUAGCCUUUAGUCUUCUUUCUAUUCCCACCGGAAGUGUGUCAAUAUCAAGUUUUGACUCAUCAAGCGGAAGACUUUGGGUUUAAGAGACUUCUAAGAUUUUGUUCUUCAUCUUCACCAUGUGGAUUUGAUUUAGGAACAUCCGAAUCUAAGGUAUGGCUUUUGUUAACACUUUCUGAAUCCCUUUAAAGUUUAAAAAUGUUAUUUUUCCUUUGUACAUAGGAUUUAGAAAAAGCCUAGGAUAGUUAUGCAUGUUCCUAACCUGAUCCGAGCUUAGGAAAUGGAGAGAUUCGAGUUUUCCCAUUAGGCAGUUGACAUGAAACAUGUAAGAGAAGAAAUUUUAGACAUAUUUAAGGCUCAUACCUUUGAGUGGGUGCGAUAUGGUAUUGGGAAUUCAAUGGCUAGCUGAAUUGGGACUCAUAUUGUGGGAUUUCAAGAAUUUAAAAAUGGAAUUUAUUAUUGAUGGGAGGAAAUUCAUGUUGAAAGGUGCAACUAUAGGUUCCAAAAAUUUAGUUUCAACAAAUCAAAUUCAAAAGGAUUUAAGGCAUAUGUAUCAAGCAUCUACCAUUCAAAUUUUCACUAUACAAAGGAAUAAGGAAAAUAAAGUUGAAAAGGAACAACAUGGCAACUGUCCAACUCAUUUCCAAGAGAUGUAACAUGGAAAGAUGCUUACAAGAUUCAAUAAAAGUUUCCGUAGUUUCAACCUUGAGGACAAGGCUUCUUUUGAUGGGGGAGGGAAUGUUACAGCCCCAAAUAAAGGAUCCCUAGAAUCCCUUAAUCUUUAGUUUCUAUUUCUACUUAGUUUCUAUUUCUAUUUGGUUUCUAUUUGAUUGGGGAAUAAAGUAUCCCUAAGAUCCCUCAAUCUUUAGUUUCUAUUUCUAUUUAGUUUCCUAUAUAAAAUAAGGAAAGUGUAAUGGAGAAAAACAUGAAAAAAAUAAUCUGAAUAAGAAAAAUUUGUUCUCUCAAUUUUUCAUCUUUUCCUCAUAUCAUAAAAUUCUAAAUGUGGAUUUUCUCCUUUUGAAGCUCUAUAUGAUACGAAAUCAAUUCUCUUUUACUCUAAUUCCAAGUAUGUAUUUAUCGAAAGGGGUAUGCUUUGACUCUCAAUGAACACAUUUUCUCAAAUUUUCUUCAUAGCUAAGUGGAAAUAACAUAAGGCAGUUAAACUUGCUUUGAGAUUAAUUGUGGUUUUGACAAGCAUUUCAUCUAUAAUUCAUUUAUACAAAAUUUUAUUUCAAAGUUCAAAUAAUCAUUUGAAUUUUACAUUUAAAUUUUAUUUUUAAAUUUAAGACUUAAUUAUUUUGUAAUUAGAGUACUUGUCAUAAAAUUGAAGCUCAUAUAUAUAUAUAAAUGCUUCCACUUUCGUACCUGUCAUAAAAUUAGAGCCUACUUUUUUUUAUUUUCUUUUGUGUGUUUAUAAACGUCUCCAAUUCCAUAUCUAGCUAUGAUAUAUUUUUGUAGAUGAUUGUGAUUGAAGUAUAAUUUCUUUUGAUUUUAAUUUUAUAAGAAUUAAAAGUCUUAUCUAAAUUUGAUUAUUAUUCUAGUUUUCUAAAAGUUCAGAGUAUUACAAAGAAACUAUUGAGUAGAAAGAUGUUUCCCUCCAUACAUAUCUAAUUAAAAAAAAAACCACAAAGAAAAAAAAUUAUUAUUCAUCUGUUGUGUUAGUGCAAAAUAUGAAAAAGAAGACAGAAGCGUGCAUCUUCACUGUGACUGAGGAUCAAAUUCUCUUUGAGAUUGAUAUAAAUUAUUUAUAGCUUCAUUGUUCGUGGAGAGUUGAUUCAGUAGUGUCUUCCAUUUGAAGACAUACAGAAAUGGUAAGAAUUAUUUAUUAAUAUGAAGAGAUAACUUGCAUCUAUGACCCUCAUACUCCCAUGAACUUUGAUCUUAUAAACAUAGUGGGCUUGUUUUAUUUAUAAAAUAUAUAUGAAAAGAGAAUAUAAAAAAAUUAUUUUCAUGGGAAGUGUAUUUUGGAAAAAAUAAUUCUCACUUGAUACAUUGGAAAAGUGCCUACCUCAAAUUACCCAAAAAUGACGUUAUAUGUGUACAUGUGUCAUCAUCCAUACUAGCCCAACUUACAUGAGGAUGGUACAUCAUUCAACCAACAAAGGUACUUUAAGCUCAAAACAAUGGUACAUUAUAAUCAAAACAAUGUUACUUUAAUAUCAAAAUACAUGUAAGGACAUUUUCGGGUAAUGUGAGGUAAAUACUAUUCUAAUACAUUAAAUAAGAAUUAUUUUCCCAAAAAUGUACUCCACAUGAAAAUGACUUUUGUGGGUUUUCUUUUAUUUAUAUUUUAUAAAUAGUACAUGUUUACAUAAUUCCCUCAUAAAUAUAAUACAAUCAUCUAUACCUGAUAAUUAAGGAAAUCGAAAAUAUUUACAUACUAAGCAAGGAUAAUGGAAAUUAAAGAGUAUGUCAAAAGAGAAGAAAAAUACUAAAGAUAAAUUAAAACUCUAAAAUACAAGCCUUCAUUUGCACAUAUAGGCUAAUAUCUUAGGAGGUAUUUGAUUAAAUAAUAAUAAUAAUAAAAAAAAUAAUAAUAAUAAUGAUUAAAAAAUGGAAAAAAUUAUGAGUCCCAUUUUUUAAGUGUUUUCAAUAACAUAAUUAUAAACCCCUUAAAAUUUAAAAUCAUUUAUUUAAACCACUUUAUUCAUUUAGCAACAAGGACUUAAUUAAUCACUAAGAUCAAACAUAAUGAUUUAUAUUUUUUAUAAUUUAAUUUUUUUUUCCAUUUUAAUAAAAUGAAGAUUACUAUUAAUAAAACAAAUUAUUAUGAAAUAAUUUUGUUCAUUAUAAAAUUUAUCUUUCUUUUCUAAAUCAGAAUUUUUGUCAUGUCCAUUCAUAUAAUAAAAUUAAAAUUAUAAAUAAAAAAACUUAUUUUAAUUGACAACACCAUGGAAUCUCUCCAUGCACACUCAUGCAGCCAUCAGUUCCCACGGCAACCAUGUGUCUUCCAACAAGUAUAUUUGCUUUCUUUGGCCCUCCAUGUGUUUGUGUUCUAUUUUUAUUUAUUUAUUUUAUCUUGAUUAGUAGUUCACUAAACAAGCAUGACAAGGAUAUGAGCAGAUAUGUCAUGGCUAUGAUCACUUCUAACACUUAACCCUCUUAAACUAAGUGAAGUAUGAAUGCAGUAUGCAAGUCUAAAUAAUGGUGAAAGAAUAAAAACAAAGGAGAAUGCAUGUAAGAUGUAUAUAUAACUAUAAAUAAGGAUUCAAAAUGAAGGGAAAAAUCAUCGAGAAGGGUGAACCAUGGGUGAUAAGCCACUUCAAGGUUCAUCCUUUGGAUAAAUAUUAAAAGUUAAAGAGUAUAAAAAGUCUACACAUGUCGUCAUUUUUUUUUUCACUUUUAAGUUAAAUAUAUUUUUAUUGUUAUAAAUGAAGUAAUGAAUGCCACCACAUUUAUUAUAUUAAAUGUUCAUUAAAAGCCUAUAAAAAUGUUUCUUAUGUAAAAUGCUUCCCAAGCAAAGAAAGAAAUUCUCUUUUCUUAUUCUCUCUUUUUCUUAUUCUCCAUAUCUUUCAUUCUUUCAACUCUCUUAAUUCUCUUUUAUGAUUCCUUCCUCUCCAUUAUAUAUUAUUAUUUAAAUAAUAUGUAGUUGUUCUCUACUUUUAUUUGGGUUGCAUUUAUCCCCUUUUUACAACAUGUUACCAGCACGAAUUGUUCUUAAGGUAAUUCUCAUAUCUUAAACUUGAAGUUAUUUACAUAGAAUAAAAAGCUAUAAGCAAAUUAUUUGAUUUUGAUUAUAAUCAAAAGUUAUACCAAUGCUAUUAAUUUAUAACUAAUUCUAGUAAUAUUUUUUUAACAUAUAUCUAAAGUUAUUUGACAAUGUCAAAUCUCACAAAACUCGAAUUUGUGGCACUUGACAUUUCAGGAAAGAACUAUCUAUCUUGGAUCCUUGAUGCUGAAAUACAUCUUGAUGCAAUGAAUCUUGGAACUACGAUCAAAGUAGGAAAUCAAGCAUCCUUAUAGGAUCACACAAAAGUGUUGAUUUUUCUUCGCCAUCAUUUCUAUGAAGGUUUUUAAAAUGGGUAUCUUAUAGUAAAGGACGUUUUUACUCUAUGGAGUAAUUUGAAGGAAAGAUAUGACCACUAGAAAAUUGUGAUUUUCCCAAAAGCUCGAUAUGAUUGGAUGCACUUAUGGUUGCAGGAUUUUAAAACAAUUAGUGAAUAUAACUCUGCACUUUUCAGAUUCAGCUCUCAAUUAUAGCUGUGUGGAGAAAAAAUCACAGAAGAAGACAUGUUAGAUAAAACUUUACUACAUUUCAUGCCUUAAAUGUGCUCUUAUAGCAGUAAUACCUAGGGUGUAGAUUUAUAAAAUACUUUGAACUAAUAUCAUAUCUUCUUGUUGCUGAACAAAAUAAUGAGCUUUUGAUGAGAAAUCACUAGUCUCAUCCAAUUGGAUUUGAACCAUUCCUUGAAGUGAAUGCAAUAUCGUCUCAAACUCGUAGACGUGGAUGAGGACAUGGUCGUGGUUGUGGAAGGCAUCCCUAAUAUAAUGGUUAUUGUGGUAAUAAUUCCUCAAAUUCUCAUAAAAGGAAAACUUCAUUGCACCACCGAAAGUGGAAUAAUACUGAGGCAAAACAAGAAAAUGGGAAGUGUUUACAAGAUAAACCUCCCAAGAACCAUGAGAAUGAUUGUUAUAAAUGUGGUAUGAAGGGCCAUUGGUCCCAUACCUAUCGUACACUCAAACAUUUGGUCGACCUUUACCAAGCAUCAAUAAAAGCAAAAAGAAAAAAUGUAGAGAUGAACUUUACCAAUGGUGAUGGAUUGGACCUAACCUACUAUGACAUUGAUAUGACAUUGAUUUGUUUGGAGGUCCUAGUGAAAAAACAAACCAUUUAAUAAAUGAUGAGAAUGCUAACAUUGAUUGGUGUUACUUUAUAAAUCAAAUAAUAUAUUAUUAUGUCUUAUAUUUAUAUCUUAUUAUUACAUUUUCUUUUAUAUUGUUAUUUAUAUUAUGUGUUGUUUUUUUAAUAUUAGUUGUAUCUAAAAUCCACGUGUUAUUUGGUCUCAAGAUGAAUGAGGAUGAUGUAUGUCUCAUAAGAUUAUGAAACCACACACACAAUUCUUCGAGAUAAAAGAUAUUUCCUUGAAUUAACAUUGAUAAAAGCUAAUGUAAGUACCAUAUCUAGUACUACAAACUUAGUAGAAGGCUCUAGAAGAGCAAACAUAAUGCUACCAAAUGGAACUAGAUUUCAUAUAAAUGAUGAUUUAUAUUAUAGCAAAUCCAAAAGAAAUUUGCUCAAUUUUAAAGAUAUCCGUAAAAAUGUAUAUCAUAUUGAAACUAUGAAUGAAGAUAAUGUAAUUAUCUUUACAUUACUUCCAUUAUAUUUGGGCAAAAACUUAUAAUAGAAAAACUCUCGGCUUUCUCCUCCAGGUUGUAUCAUACAACUAUAAAGCCUAUUGAAUCACAUUUUUUUGUGAACCAAAAGUUAAACUACCUAAAAGUUUUUGUCCUUUGGCAUGACAGACUAGGUCACCUAGGGUUUUCAAUGAAGCAUCAAAUAAUCGAACACUCACAUGGGCAUCCACUAAAGAACCAGAAGAUUCUUUUGCCCAAUGACUACUCAUGUGUUACUUGCUAACAAGGUCAAUUGAUAGUCAGAUCAUCUUUUACUAAAGUCUAUCCGAGUCACUAGUCUUUUUAGAAAGAAUACAUAGGAACAUAUAUGGGCCUAUCCAUCCACCAUGUGGACCAAUUCGUUAUUUUAUUAUCUUAAUAGAUGCUUCGAUUAGAUGGUCACAUGUUUGUCUUCUUUUUACACAUAAUGUUGCCUUUGCUAGACUCCUUUCACAAAUGAUCAAAUUAUGGGCACAAUUCCAAGGUUAUCCAAUUAAGACAAUAUGUCUUGACAAUGUUGGCAAAUUUACUUCUCAAACAUUCAUUGACUACUGUCUAUCAAUAGGGAUACAUAUUGAGCAUCUUGUUGCUCAUACUCAUACCCAAAAUGGUUUAGCAAAAUCCUUCAUCAAACGUCUCCAAUUAAUAGCUCGACCAUUACUAAUGAAAACCAAAUUACCUACUUCUGCCUGUGGACAUGUUAUUAUGCAUGCUGCAGCUUUAGAUCAUAUUCGACUUAAAACUUACCAUGAAUACUCCCUUUUACAACUCCUACUUGGAAAAAAACCAGAUAUCUCUCACUUACGAAUCUUUGGUUAUGUAGUAUAUGUACCAAUUGCACCCACACAAUGCACUAAAAUGGGUUCCCAAUAAAGACUCGGGAUUUAUUUAGGUUUUAAUUCUCCAUCUAUCAUAAGAUAUUAUUAGAAAAAUUAGGUUAAUCCAACCUAAGGUAAUCAUCCUAAAAUGGGGGGAGAAGGGAGUGAAUAGAGUGAUGGUCUCUUUUUGAAAAUUUAAAUUAUAUGAAUGCAAAAGACUAUUGUAUGCAAAUAUAUAAUAAAACAAUAUAAAGACAAUUGCAUAUAAAGUAAAAGAGUGGGGAAUAGAGAAAGCAAACAUAAGCUUUUUAUAGUGGUUCAGCGUAACCCAACCUACAUCCACUCUCAUCUAGCUUCAAUCCCAAGCUUGAGAUUCUACUAUUUCAAGGCUUCCAAACCAAGACUUCAAGCAAUACAAUUGGAUUAUAGUUCUAAUCCACUUUCUUGGACUUUUGGCCCCAAGCACCCUUUACAAUCCUUAAGAGAUACCCCACUCUUGAACAAUCCCUCAAGUGAUACCCCACACUUGAGAAUCCUUAAAUGAUAUCACACACUUAGGCUUUUCUUCUCAAAGAUUUACAAAUGAAGAUAGGAUUGAAAGGUGCACUAAUGAUAUGAAAGUUUUAAAACGUUGAUGCACUUAAAAACACCCUCCCAAGGCUCAAAUAUAUUCAAGAAGGGUUUUGGAAAGUUAAGCUCUUGAAACAAUGAAGAUUGAAGCCUUUUUAUAGAGGAAAACGACUAAACUAGUCGUUGGGAGUUUGACUGAUCGAGCUGAGGGUUGAUCGAUUGACUAGCCGUUAGCCGCAUUUAAUGCUUGGUAGAGGACCAUUGGACCUUGAACCCCCUUGACCGGACCUUGACUGUUUGAACAAGCAUUAUGGAAGAGAGAGAAGGUUUUUGCACCCUUCGACUGAUUAAGCUGAACAGGUCAACCGGUUCCUCAUUUGGUUCAACCGGUUGUGUCAUUUUUGGCUCAACAACCAUCAUUUUCAACUUAAAGCCUUUUAAACAAGUUUACAAAAAUUUGACACAAGAUUUUAGUUGAAAACAUGAAAUCAUGCAAUUUUAAAGGAUUUAAUAAAAAAUUACUUUUGGAUGAUUUUGCUGCAUAAAUUAAUAAUGUAAUACAUAAAAGACCUAGUACACCAACAACCUUAUAAAGAGAUCCUAUAAAGUUUAGGUCUUGAAAAACACUUCUCUUUGAGGUCUUUUUUUUCUUAAUGAUUUCUCUUUGGUUUGAUUUUGUCUUUUUGAUUGCCACUUUGGAAAUAUUCUUCCCUAAUCAGACUUGAAAUAUAAUCAUUAGUUCCAAACCUUGUUUUAUUAUCAUCAAAACUGAGAUUAACCAAACUUUGGUUUCACAAAUAUCUUGAACCUUUGACAAAUGAUGUUUUAACAGCCCACUUUGCAGAUUGUCGUUUUAAUAAGAGUGUUUUCUUGUCAUUAGGGGGAGAAAAAUCGAUUCCUGAAGAACAGUGGCAAAUUACUUGGAAUGCAUCUACUAUAUCCCAUCUUGAUCCUCAUACAAAUCAAUGUGAACUCGAAGUUCAAAGGAUCGUUUAGUUGCAAAAUCUUGCAAACCAAUUACUAGAUGCAUUCAUUAAUACAAAGAAAGUGACAAAGUCACAUGUCCCAGCUACAAAUACUUUAGCAUGGAUUGAUAUCCCUGAAGGAUAGCUACUAAAUGAAUCUAAGAUACGCUUGAAGCGUGGUAGACUUGUUGGCUCGAAUGAUGUAACUUUUGGAAGAGGAGAACACAAGAAAAACUUUGCACUUUAGAAGAGGUCAUUAAAAUGACUGAUCAGUUUAAAAUUGAUAAGUCUAUAGCCCUAAAAGAGGCACAAAUAAUACAAAAAACCCUUGAAAAGGCACAUAUUGAACAAGAAGGCCCUAAAAAAGUACAUAUUGAACAAGAAGCCCUUAAAGAGGCACAUAUUGAACAAUGAACCCCUAAAAAGGCACAUAUUGAACAAGAAGCCCUUGAAGAGGCACAUAUUGAACAAGAAGCCCUUAAAGAGGCACAGGUACCUGAAAAUUGAGAGAUCUUAUUAAGUUAUGUACACAUAGGAGAAAAAUGGGAUCUAAAUAAUAUUGCUAUUAAUAAUAUUUUUGCUUUCCAAGUGGCUCUUGAUAUCAUAAGAAAUGAUGAAGAUCCCGAACCACAAAAUGUGGAAGAAAUGCCGACAUAGAAAUGAUUGGCCAAAAUGGAAAGAAGUUAUGCAAACAGAGUCAAACUUAUUAACAAAACAAGAAGUUUUUUGACUUGUACUCCAAACACCUGAAGAUGUAAAGCCUGUUAGGUAAAAAUGGGUAUUUGUAUGAAAUUAUAAUGAGAAUAAUGAGAUCAUAAGAUAUAAAGUGUAAUUAGUAGCACAAGUUUUCUUUCAAAGACCAGGUAUUGACUAUAAGGAAACAUACUCUCCCAUCAUAAACACAAUCACAUUUCAUUUCAUAAAUAGUUUGGUAGUCUCAUAAGGAUUAGAUAUGCAUCUCAUGGAUGUUAUUACAACAUAUUUAUAUGGAUCCAUAGAUAAUGAUAUAUACAUGAAAAUCCUUGAAGGAUUUAAAUUGCCUGAAACAAAUAGUACAAAGACUUGUAAUAUUUACUCAAUCAAGUUACAACGAUCCUUAUAUGGAUUAAAGAAAUAUGGAUGCAUGGGGUACAAUUGCAUUAGCAAAUAUUUGCUAAAAUAAGGGUAUGUGAAUAGCACCAUAUGUCCAUGCAUCUUUAUUAAGAAAUUAGAAACUGGAUUUGCAAUUAUUUCACUGUAUGUUAAUGCCUUAAAUCUUGUUGGAACUCCUGAAGAGCUCAUAAGAACAAAAAAUUACUUAAAAAAGGAAUUUGAGAUGAAGAAUCUAAACAAAAUUUUCUAUUAGUCUGCAAAUCGAGCAUGUUCCAAAUGGAGUUUUAGUACAUCAAUCAACAUACAUUAAGAAAAAUUUGAAGCAUUUUUAUAUGAAUAAAGUGCAUCCUUUAAGUUCUCUAAAAGUUGACUGAUCACUUGAUGUGAAAAAAGACCCAUUUCAACCUUGCAAAAAAUUUGAAGAAUUACUUGGUCUUGAAGUACCAUAUCUUAGUGAUAUUGGUGCACUUAUAUAUCUUACCAAAUUUACAUGUCUAGACAUUGCUUUUUCUAUCAAUUUAUUAUCAAGAUACAUUUCUACUCCAACUCGAAGACAUUGAAAUGGUAUCAAACAUAUAUUGCGUUAUCUUUGCAGAACUACUGAUGUGAGUCUAUUUUACUCAAGGGAAUCAAAAAAAAUUUGCUUGGAUAUAUAAAUGCAGGAUACUUUUCAGAUCCACAUAAAGGUAGGUCACAAAUAGGGUAGAUGUUUAAUUGCAAUGGUACUACUGAUUACUACUCAAAAAGUGCUAUUUGAUAGCUUAUAAUUAAUCCUUUUAAACACUUUUGAGUAGUAGUUUUCGCCUUUUAACUCAAUUGGCAUGUUAAGGACCCUUGAAAGCAAUUUUAAUCACUUUGUGUAAGUUUUGGUGUUGUUGUUAGUAAUUUGAUCACCAAAGCAAUCCAAUAUUGAGGAGAGUUAUGUGGAAUCUAGGACAAAGCUUGGAAGUCCUUUGCCAAGAGUAAAUCCGGAAUGCAAGGAGAAGAAGUAAAGAGAAUCUGCCAUGAAGCAUAUUCUUGAUGACAGUCGUGGUAGCCACUUUUGGAGCACUUUCUGAAGUCCAAUUGAUGCAUGCUAUAUACCAUUUCAAAGCUUAGGAAGUUAAAAAUCCAAUGCUUCAAACGGUACACAAUUCGGAGUUGAAACGAAGAAGUUACAGCCAUUGCAAGCAGAUCACUCCAAGCUGAAAGAAGCAUUUUGCAAAGUGUUGCGAAAUCACCCUUUUGUUGCGAAGUGAUUUCGCAGCCUUUUUGUACAGUAUGGUGUAUUUCCUCCUGAAGUUGCCCAAUAUAUGCCGCAAGCUAGAAGCUGGGAACCUCAAGAUGGAAGCCAACUUCGCAGCCCUGCGAGAAUAGCCUUUUGCUGCGAAGUGAUUUCGCAGCCCUUCUUGAGUGUCUGCGAAAUCUCACAGACACCAUUUUCUCUUGCGAAAUGGUCCCUGGAGCAUCCUGAUAUUUGCUACCGACAUUGGGAGAUAUUUUACAUCAGAUUUUUGUUGUCUAAAUCCCAAAAUACUCCUUGUAAGCCACCAAUUACAAGAUUCCUUAGCUUUUAAGUUAGUCAAAAGAGAAAAUAUCUAUGUAAUAAUUAGUUUUAUAUUAUGUUCAUAUAAAUACCUCUCGGGAGCCUAUUCUCAGAGAGGAGGACCCUUUGUAAAGUUUUGAAAAGCAAGUAAAGUUCAGGCCUUUGUUUUGCCUUACCUUCUCACUUUGUAUUAUUUAUUUCUUACUAAGUUAUGCACUCUUUGAGGAAUUUUCCCCAGAGAAUGAGUAACUAAACCUCUAGUUCCUUGGAGCUAAGGUUGCCGGGGAAGGUUCCAAGUGCAAGAAUGCAAAGCUUUGUGGUUUCAGCCAUCAAUGAAGAGGAAGUGAAAUCCUUUAGUGAUUUCUAUGUUUUUAGUUAACUUAAAACACCUUAGAGUCACCUGGGCCAACACUUGGUAAGGCAAGUGAUUUCCAACCAUGGAGAUGCACUAGUUUACCCCUUGUGAGCCUCUGGGAGGUGACUUUAAGGUAGGAUUUUCUGGAAUUGCCAACACUUGGUAAGCUUUUGGACUCCAAGGAGACAUCCAUUAGUUAUCUCUUGCGAGCUUGAGAAGGGAAGUCCAAGGUUAAAGAUCACCUUGAAUGGUUAAGGCUUAGUGAGAGGUUUGAACCAUUGCAAGUUGCAUCAGUGAGAGAAUUAAAGCUGAAAUCUAAUUGAAGGAUGUAUCUGUACAACACCGGUUAGAGAAUUAACUAUAUGUUGAAUCUCUAAAACGAGGAAAUGAACCAUCUGACCGGAGCCAUGUCUUUUGCAUGAGGAACCACCCCAGUGAACCUGACCCUCCAAGGAAUGUUUUUCUUCCUAAGUUAUUCCCAUUACUUGUUUUGUUAGUUAGUUUAAAUCUAAAUCUUUACCAAUUAAAGUUUGUGUUUUAGUUCUUAAGCUAACCUUGAAAUGAAACACUACCAAUUCACUUUGAAUUGAUAUCAUUGAUAAUUUGGAAACCCUUCCCAGUGAACGAUCCUAGAGCCGCUAUACUAUAGUAGCUUUUUCUUUGCUACCCUAGUAUAUGGUGUAAUAGGUUAUAAAUUUUGUUGAUUACUCCCUCAUCCAAGGAGCACCAGCUGGACACGAAUCAGCUGAGACACCAAUUAGGCAUGAAUCAACUAUUAUUUCAUGUAGAUCUAUCAAACAAACAAUGAUGACCACAUUAUCAAAUCAUUCAGAAAUACUUGCAAUUCAUUAAGCAAGUCGUGAAUGUAUAUGACUAAGAUCUAUGAUCCAAUAUAUUCGAGAAUCAUGUAGACUCUCCUCUAUCAAAAGUGACCCGACAAUAUUAUUUGAAGAUAAUGUUGCAUGCAUUGAACAAAUAACAAGGGGUUAUAUUAAAGGAGAUAGAACUAAACACAUUUCAUCAAAAUUCUUUUAUACAUAUGAACACUAGAAGAGUGGUGAAAUUGAUGUGCAACAAAUACACUCAAGUGAUAAUCUAGCAAAUUUAUUCACAAAGUCAUUGCCAACCUCAACAUUCAAGAAGUUAAUACACAAGAUUGGAAUGCGUCAACUCAAGGAUAUUGACAUGAGGGGGAGUAUGCUUGUAAAAGGGUAUUAGUGUAUUGUACUUUUUUUCCCUUCAUCCAAGUUUUGUCCCAUUGGGUUUUACUAGCAAGGUUUUUAAUGAGACAGUCGUAACAUAUCAAGAGCAACUUAAAGAAUUAUCAGAGUAUUAUGGUGGACAUCCAAGGAAGAGUAUUAUAAAUGAAGUAAUGAAUACCACCACAUUUAUUAUAUUAAAUGUUCAUUAAUAUUAUUUAUGACUUCCAUUAAUAUUCAUUAAUGGAAGCCAUUUGGAAAGCCUAUAAAAAGGCUUCCCAUCUCCUGUAAGAUGCAUCCCAAGGAAAUAUAGAAAUUUUCUUUUAUUCUCUAUGUCUUUCAUUCUUUCAACUCUGUUAAUUCUCUUUUUUGAUUCCUUCCUCCCCAUUAUAUAUUAUUAUCAAAAUAAUAUAUAGUUGUUCUCCAUUUUUAUUUGCAUUGCAUUUAUCCUCGAUUUACAACACUUAUUUUGUUCUUUUCUCUAUUUUAUUUUAUUUUUUUCUCUUCUAGUUAUUAUAAUUAUAAUUAUUAUUAUUAUUAUUAUUUUAUAAACAUAAUAUAACCCAUCAAAUAAUAAUAAUAAUAAUAGCAAUAAUAACACAUAUAUAAAUAAUAUAAUAAUUAAUUUAAAAUUUAUGUUUCAUUAGUUAUUAUUAUUGUUAUUAUUAUUUCAAUUUUUUUUUAAAUAUUAUAUAUAACUUAUACAAUAAUAAUGAUAAAAUAAUUUUACGAAUACUGUUUCAUUCAUGUAUUAAAGACAAAGUUUUCUUAUAAAAACUUUUAUAAAUUUUCAAAUGUUUUUUACAAUAUGAUUAUUAAGAAAAUAUUACAAUAAAAAAUUAUUAUUGAUAAUUAUGAAAAAAAGAAAAUUAAAGCAUGUGUUAUCGUAAUUUUAGUGUAUUUAUAUUAUAAUUUCAAUGCAUAACCAUGACACAUACAUUUUGCAACGAACUUAAUAGUGUUAGAAGCAUUGUCGUAUCCUACUAUAUUGAUUUCUAUAUUAGUAAGGCAUCCCAAUGAAUUAGCAUCAUAUACUAGAUGCAUUCUUAUUAGCAAUAAUUCUUAUAAUGAAACUCAUACACCUUAUAAAAAAAAUGUCUUAUAAGGUUAAUUUACAGUAGAUGAAAUGUUAAAAAAAUAUAUAAAAUAUAUGACAACCAUUCAUCAAUGCUUGUUUAAAAGGAAAAUUUUAAAAUAAAGUUAGGUUAUGCAGUAAUGUAUAAGACAUUUAAAGUAUUCAUGUUGUAAGAUCAAUAUAUUUUUGUCGUAUGUAUAUGUUGCCUUUUAUAUUAAUACAUAAUAUCAGUGUACUAUCAUUAUACAUUUAAUGAAUCAUUAUUAUGUAUGAUUUUUAUAAUAAAGCCUAUAAGUUUUAGGAAUUAGAUGGAAAAAAGAUUAUAUCCUAAGAUUGGUUUAUAAUCAAUGACAUUAUAAUAAUAAAAAUAUGAAUAAUAUAAAACUAAUAUCAUAAAUAAUAAUAUUAAUAAUAUGUUAACAAUGAUGAUAAUAAUAAAUGUAUAAUUAUAAUUUUUUUAAUAAAUAAUAUAGUUAGUCUUAACAUAUAGUAAAUAAAGCACAAAAGGUAGAAAAGAAAAGUAGAAAAGUAAAGUUAUAUGGGAGUAGAAGGAAAAGACAAAAUGAUGUAAUUGGGAUUAUGGAAUGAUCAAAUUAUCAAACUAUAACUUGUGGAUUUGAGAAGACUUUGAGACUUGGUGACCCUUAAGGGAGCUUAUCACCACUUUGAGCUGGGUGACCAUUUUUUUAAAAAAAAUUGAAAAUAAAUCCCAUGAAAAAAUUUGUUUAUAAAGAAUAAUAAUAAUUUUGUAUUUUUUUUAUACAAACUAGAUAUUUAAUUUAUUAGAAUAAUUUUGAUGGUAAUGACAAACAAAAUAACUCUAUAAAUAGGUGAAAUAAUUCAUUUUCUCAAUUUUAUAUGCAAAAUUAUUUUAAAACGAAAGGGAUAAUACAUUAUUUUUGUUCAUCAAUCCACAUUUUGACUUUCAUUUUAAAACCCAUCUAUAAAAAUCUCUCUUUAUAUAUAUCUGCCUAGAUUGCCUAAUCAUCUAUUCAUUCAUCGUCUAUAACUUCUUGCCUGAUUAUCAAUUUAGAUGUUCAUAUUUGCAUAUAUUUAUUCAUUCCACCAUGUAUUUUGUUGGCGUAUUUGUAAUGUAUACAAUUUUGAUGAAAUGUUUGAUUAUUUGAAAACCGAAUUUCCCCUUACCCAGUAAUAAAAAGCGAGUAUAAGUCUGACCAAGAGGGGUGUUCUUGGCCUUGGCCGGUGGCCUUCCUGAUAAGUCACCUUAGCCGUAGACUAUAUUUAGAUUUUGCAAUUAGUACCUUUCUUUUCCUUCUAGGAAUGACUAUCAUCUUGACCAAUCUAGCCAUGUACCAAAAAGUCAAUUUUGCCAAGUUUAAAAAGUUUGCUUUAAGCCUGUUCAUCAUAGUUGACAGAAGUUGGAAUUACAAUGAAAUAUCUAGGAGAAAAUGUCCGCAGGAGCAGAGAGAGAGAGUGAAGGCAAUACAUUCAGUCAUGAAUUUGAUGCAAAUCCCAAAGUACAUAAUUGUGUCGAAUACUCUCACCAUGAUUGUCGAUCUCUCGGAUCAGACGAUUACUAUGUUUGCCAAAAAUGCCUGGGCCGUAUGUGGAAUAAAUCAAUUUCACAAGGAGGGGAAACUGCCAAAUUCCGUACAAGGUCACUGGCAAACAGGUUAAUGCAGCCAAGGUAAUAAGAAUCCAAGCCUUCUUUUCACCAAAGUGAAGAUAGAUUGCGCUACUGUAGGCUAUCAUCAUGAAUGUUACGGAGAGGAAUAGAGUAACAAGGCCAAAUAUCAACCUCCUGGGAAGGACAAAAAGAAAAUCAUCUUCAGCAUAUCGUGCCGUGAGAAUGGAUAGGAAUAUCAGCACCGAAGCAAUGGAUAGGAAGAGGGAAAGAGCAUCCGAAACUGCAAAAAAUUUGAAGGUAUAUUCUUCGGAGAAAUUUGGUAUGCCAGUAUCAUCAUGGUUGCCACCCGGGAUGGAAAUUGCUGCUGCAAACACUACAGUAGCAAUAAGCGCUGCUGCCAAUGUGUAAGAUUUUGCUGUGCCUUUCAUCCAUUUCUCUCCUUCUUUUAUCAACUCUUUAUGUUCCUUUAUAAAUACCAUUUUUGGUGUCUCUUGUUCAUCGUUCUCAAAUUCCCUGAAGGCUUCCGGUGCAUAUUUUUCGAUUUCCUGUGUAAAAAUCAAAAUGUUUCUAAGACACAGAAAAAGAGUGGACAUGUAUAAGAAAAUUAAUUCCCCUUCAAAACAAAAAUUAUUACCUGAAACCAAUGUAACUCACGUUGCAUUUGUAGAGCUGCACCAGAAACGAGACUGAGCCGGUGUGGAGGGGCCAAUUUUCCAGCCAAAUGCAAGAUAUUGUUAUUUGAAUCACCUCUGAUUCGUAUUAUAAAUUGUCUAUGCAUACCGAUUUCGCAGAUGAGGUUGAAAAUCUUUUCAUAACGAUUUAAUAUUGCCAAUUUGAAUACUUCCUCAUCCAGAUACUGAAGUGCAGAAGGAUAUAACUUUAGAAUGUUUUCCAGAAUUUCGGGAAUUCCAUAUUUUGCCCCAUUAAUGAAUGAUUGGCUGAAUAUUUCCUUUGCUCUUGGUACUUCCAAAUCUUCAACUUUAGUACAUAGGUGGUUAAGCAAUUGAAGAGUCUGAGAAUGCAUUGUUUUUGUUUCUUGGAUUUGCUUGAUGGGUGGUACUGCAAUUAAACUUAUAUUAAGGACAACAUAUCAUUGCAUUCAAGACUUUUGCAUGCUUUAGUGGAAGUUUUGUUGUGUCCCUUACCUAACCGUCCAACCAGUUCACAGAAUAUUGCAUUCGCCUUUUGGCAAGCUGUGUGCAGGAUAAAAUUGAAGCAGUUCAGAUGCAAAAGCAGGAAUAACAGAAAAAAAAAAAAGAAAAAAAAAGAAAGAAACAAUCCUGAACAAAGUACCAAUUAAACACUAAUCUAAAUUAAAGUGAUUGUGAGUAGUAGUUGCCAACUCAUAUUGGUUGGUGUAGAGUUUGUGUUUUCUGGCUAUCAUUAAGUUAAUUAAAUAUACGAUGCCAGUUUGCUUGAAUAAAUUAAGUUUCAAGAUUCACACCCUUGAAUUACUUAUGGCCAAUCUGAUAUUCAUCUUCACAUGUACAUGAAUUUGGGGUUUGUUAUGGAAAAAUGAGAAUAGGCAACAAGAAAAAUAAGAACACAUAGAUUUAUGCGAAAAAUCCUAGAUGGGAAAAACCACGGGCAGAGGAGAAAGAUAAUCCAUUAUGUCAAAAAUUGGUACAAAAAGGGGAGUGUAUCAAGUGGCUACUAUAUAUAUCCUUGAAAACCUAUACACCAUUAAAAAUAUAUACAUAUAUGGGAGAGAAAAAAAUAAAUAAAGCAGGAAAAUCCAUAAUUUUUCUUCACCAUAUAUGUUACACCGCAAACUUUUUGGGUUGGACCAAAAAAGGAAAUCGGGUCACCAAGCUCUAACAAUCUCCACCUUGACAUAAAUUCUAAUGUAAGGAAUGAAAAAACAAACUCCAAUCUUCAACCAAAACUCUUCACCUCUUCCACAAACCCUAAAGGGCAACUCAAUAACGAAUACUAACCAAGUCCAAGCAAUGCUCAAACUUUGCUAUAGAGAGUGUCUUGGUUAUCAUAUCAACAGGAUUAUCAUGGUUGCUAACUUUGCCCAUAACAAAGCAAUGAUAUCACGCACAAAAUGAUACCUCACAUCAAUGUGCUUUGUCCUAUCAUUAAACAUUCGAUCUUUUGUGAGGAAAAUAGCACUCUAACUAUGACAAAAAACUGUGGUAAUCUGUAAGUUGUCACUAAGUUCACCAAAUAGUUUCCUUUCAAGCCUUUGUAAUAGCCAUGUACUAAGCCUCUAGUAAACAAAGCAACUGUAAUCUACAAAGUAGCUUUCCAACUAAUAGCACAACUACCAAUAGUAAAAACAUACCUUAUAAGAGAUCUUUUAUCAAGGUCACUUGCAAAAUCAGAAUCGACAUACCCAACAGCUCCAUCUCUAACUCUCCCAAAAUGCAAACAAACAUCAGUAAAGCCACACAAGUAUCUGAACAUCCAGUGAACUACUUUCCAAUGUUCUUUACCAGGAUUUGUCAUGUAUCUACUAACUACACUAACUGCAUAUGAUAAAUAUGAAUGUGAACAAACUCUUAUACUGCUGUCUAGGUGACUUUUUUAAGCCAUAGAGAGAGACUUUUUCAACAAACACACUUAGUCUUUCUUUCCUGAAACUAUAAAACCCUUAGGCUACUGCAUGUAGAUGUCCUCCUUAAGUUCCCCAUGUAAGAAUGUUGUCUUCACAUCCAACUGCUCAAGCCCAAAAUCAUACAUGGUCAUAAUAUCAAGCAAAGCUCGAAUCAAACUAUGCUUUACAUUUGGAGAAAACACAUUAGUGAAGUCUAUACUCGAAAUCUAAUCGUAGCCCUUUACAACUAAUCUCGCUUUAUACCUAGCUUCUUCAACUCUUGGUAUUCCUCCUUUCCUCUUCAACACUCAUUUGCAAUUAAAAAUCUUUUUACCCUUAUUUAGUCUCACUAAGUCCCAUGUGCCAUUUUUAUGAAGUGACCCCAUCUCCUCCUACAUGACAAUCAUCCAUCUAUUAGAAACAUCACAAUUAACUGCCUUUGAGUAGGUAGAAGGUUUUGCACUAGAAUCAAUACCUUUGGCCACAUUUAAGGCAUAAGCAACCUAAUUAGCCUCAAUAUACCUCUGUGGAGGUUUAAUAUCUCUUCUAGUCCUAUCUUUAGCAAUAGAUUAUUGUGGUGAUGGUUGUGGUGGUGAGAGAGCAGCAACACCACUCUUCAUCCCUGAACUAGACUAAGAUGUAGAAUCUAGUAUGGAUCCUAAUUCAAUCUAAAACUCCACCUGUGUGCUUGAUUUCUGUUGCUUUUUUUUUUUUCAUAAGAAUCUCUAAAAGAUAAGUCACAAAGCAUAGCAGUUUCCUAAAAAAUAUCUUUAUUGAUUAUGACUUUAUUUGUUUUUGGACACCAUAACUUAUAUCCUUUAACACUAGACUUGUAGCCAAGGAAGAUAGAUUUUAUAAAUCUAGGUUCCAAUUUUCCAUUAUCAACAUGAGCAUAGGUAGGACAUCCAAAUAUCUUCAAAUUUGAGUAAUUAGCAGAAGUACUAGACCAUACCUCUUAUGGAGUCUUUUUGUCAAUAGCAGUUGAAGAAGAGCAAUUAAUGAGAAAACAAUCAAUAGUGGUAGCUUCAACCCAAAAAGAUUUAGGUAAACCAACAUUGGAGAGAAUACAACAUACUUUCUCCAUCAAAGUCCUAUUCAUUUGCUCUACCACACUAUUUGAUGUAGAGUAUGACAAACUGUGUGAUGCCUCACAAUUCCUUCUAACUUGCGUAGAGCAUUUAAUUCAUCAUAACAAAACUCCAAGCCAUUAUUAGUGCAGAGAUGUUUUACCUACUUCUCUAUCUACUUCUCAAUCAUAAUCUUCCAGUCCUUGAAUGUAGCUAGCACAUCACUCUUUUGCUUCAAGAAAAACACCCAAAAUUUUCUAGAAAAAUCAUUAAUGAUAGUCAACAUAUAACUAUAACCUCCCUUAAAAGGCACCCUAGAUGGUCCCUAAAGAUCAUAAUAUAUAUAACCAAGUGUCCCUUUUGUCUUGUGAAUGCUUUUUAUGGAUUUAACUCUCCUCUGCUUCCCAAAAAAGCAAUGCUCAUAGAACUUCAGUUUACUAAUACUUUGCCCAUUAAAAAUUCCUUUUAUACUCAGUUCAACCAUCCUAUUCUCACUUAUAUGCCCAAGAUGCAUAUGGCAAAGUCUAAUAACAUCACCAUCUGACAAUGAAAGAGUUGCAACAGUUGCAUCACCUGUAACUAUAAGACCUUGCAAGACAUAUAAUUUGGAAGACCUUUUCUACCCUUUCAUCAUAACAAGAACACUUUUGCUAACCUUCAAGACUCCACCCUCACCAAUUUACUUGUACCUUUUUGAAUCAAGAGUACUCAACGAGAUAAGAUUCCUCUUUAGAUCUAGGACGUGUCUCACAUCACCAAGUGUCUUAACAAGCAUAUCAAACUUUUUAAUUUUGAUCAUUCCAAUACUAGCUAUCUUAUAAGAUGCAUCAUUUCUCAUCUACAUAACACAUUUGGACAUUGUUUCAUAUGUUGAAAAAUAGUCCCGAUUGGGACACAUGAAAUGUGCAAUCGGAAUCAAGAAUCAAAUCUUUGUAAGGUUUGGAGUCGCUAUAAAAAAAAACUAGGAGUUUUCCAUCACUAUACUCAUCUUCUACAACACUGGCUUCACCAGAUUUUUCUAGUUGUUUUCCCUUCUGAUUUACAGCAACUUUCUUAUUCUUAUUCUGCAAUUUAUAGCAUUCAGAUUUGAUGUGCCCCUUUUUCUUAUAGUAUCUAUAGGUUUUUUGUCUUUAUUACUACAUUUCAAUAUGCCCCUCGCAUCACCACCAAAAUUCCUCUCCUAUAUCCUCUCUCAAACAACAAGGUCCUCUACCUGAGCCUUAGAUCCAAUCACAAGCUACUUCAUCUUUUCCUUAGAAUAUAAAGCAUAAAAAACUUUCUCCAGUAAGAGUGUCACGAUUAUACAAAAUAGUAUCUCUAAAAGUCGUAUAUAAAGAGGGCAACAAACAUAAUAAAAUCAACCCUAAAUCUUCUUCAUCAUACUAAACCUCCAUGGUCUCUACAUCAAAAACAAUUUCUUUAGAGACGGUUAAGUGAUCUUCUAAAUACAUACCUUCUGUUAUACGAUGAGAAUACAGUCACUAUUUUAGAUGUAACUUGCUAGUUAGACUUUUCAUCAUGCACAAGAAAUUUUUUCUUUCAGAAUGUCCUAUAAAAUUUGAUUUGACAUAUGAAGAUGAAUUUGAGAUAGGGCCUUUUGAUCAUUACGUUGUUUUUUCUCCGGUGUCCACGAUGAGGGCAUCUUGUCAAACCCUAAUAGGAUUAUACCAAAAAAAGAAAUCGAGUUACCAAACUCUAACAAGAUUCAAUAGGUUUCAUAUAUUUCCCUUAAACCAUACACUUGAAUUUAAAGGCUAUAAUCAAGAAACCUAAUGAAAUUUGGUACAAACUCAAUCACUUGACCUCUUUUUAAUUAACUAGGAGCAUUAGGUGACAAAAUAUUCACAAAAUCUAUCAAAACAAUGCAAAUUGUGUAUCCUGCAUAAUUCUUUGAGUAGUAAAGUAAUAUCCAUUGAAAUUUGAUCAUAGAGCUGAUAUUAAAUCAAUUACUUGAACUUAAAGGAAAAAAAUGAAGAGAAUUUUGUGAGGACAAACUAAAGUUGUGAGGAUUAAUCAAAAUAAAAAGUUGAAUUCAACAAAUUGGCAUUUCUCUAAUGGGUGCAAUUUGGCAAAUUAGUUUAACCUAACUCGAAUCUCGAUGAAGUUAAGAAAACAUUUUUAGUACUCAAGUUAAGAUUUGGUUGACUUUCUUAACCAAAAAUUAAUUUGGGUUGACCUCAAUUUUGGGCUUAGUUCAAACCAAUGCUUCAAGAAUCUAAGCCUAAUUAAACUCCAUUUAAUAUUUUAUAAUAUUUAUAGAAUGUAUUACUAUAUAAUAAUAUCAAUUUUUUUUCUAGAAUAAGUUCAAGGGAAAAAACAUCAAAAUAUAUUAAGCUAACUCUUAAAAAUUUGCCUACUCUUUGUGAACACUAUUUGGAAGGAAAAUUAAUAAGGAAGCCUCUUAAGAAAGCCCCAAAGGUAUAUCGUCCUUUUAGCCAAGGCAUUCUAAAGUACAAGGCCUAAUGAACAUGAGAGCUAAGCAUGGUGCCUACUACUUCAUCACAUUUAUAGACAAUUAUGUCUACAAGUCCAAAGAAUUACUCUAGUUUAGAUGUUAUAUGAAUAUUGUAGAAAACUGAAAAGAAAAAACUAUUAAAGCAUUAAGGAUAAAUCAUGGACAUGAGUAUCUAUUAAAGAUUUUUUAAAAUCUCUAUGAUGAAAAGGAAAUCCAAAGACAAUCAAUAGCUUCAAGGACUCGAUAGUAAAUUGGUUGAAUUGAAAAAAGUAACCAUAAACUUUUGGAUAUGGUUUACUUAAAAUGACAUAAGCCAACUUUCUAAUAUCCUUGGGGAGGAAGGGUUACUGUUUUGAUUGUAACUUAAAACUUGAAUAGAGUACCCUCAAAAUCAAUUACUUCAAACCCAUAUAGUUGUGAAAAAAAAGAAGUAAAAAACUAAACCUAACUCACUUGUGAUCCUAAGGCUUAGUAGGUUCAAUUCAUGUAAAUUCUCAUAUAUAUUGUGCUAUAAAGGAAACAAGUAAAUUUUCAUUAGAUAUUCUAAUAAAUCAAAGGUUGUGUGAUGCUUAAUGUACAACUCACGAGAGUAUAAUUGAAGUUAAGUCAUAUGAAGUUAGUUUCUUAUAGGAUGAUAUUUCGAGUAGAGGAGCAUUAAACAAGAGUCUUAAUUUAUUUAAGGCAAUUAAACCAAAGGAAAAUACUGUGAUAUCCCACAUCGAAUAUAGGAAAAAGUUCUUGACAUUAUAUAUGUAUGAGCUCCUCUUAAUUAUUUAGACACAUUUUAACAUUGUGAGGGCUCUUUAAACCCAAAGCAGAUAGAAUAUAUUUACAUAGUUGGGAGUGGGUCGUUAAAAAUGAUAUUAGAGUAUAUUCUCAACCCCAAUGUGGGAGUUUGUUUAGCCUCACAACGGAUAUUUGUUUGUUUGGUCUUGCAAUCCUAUGAGACAUAAUAAGUAUGUUAUGUCUCUCUGGGGGUGAUUGUGAUAUCCCACAUUGAAUAGGGGAAAAAGUUCUUAGCAUUAUGUAUGGACUCCUCUUAACCAUGCAAGUGUGUUUUAAAUCUAUAAGGACCCUUUAAGCUUAGAGUAAACAAUAUUUACAUGAUUAGAGUGAGUUGUUAUAGAUGUUGAAGAUCUUGCUAAGGAUAUGAGUGACUCGACAAUUUUCAAGACUAUAAUUUUAAGUAGUAGCCUACCACCUACUUAUGCCACCAAGUGGGAUUUUACCAUUACAUAUUAUUCACUAGAUUUAGAUGUUUGUGUAGAAAACUUGGAACUAUCCCAUCAUUGUCAUUGUGGGCAUUAGGGUGAAGCUUUCAUGUUUGCUUCAUAAGAUCAUGAUGUUGGGAUAGAGCUUUAAAAAGUAUGAUAUGAUGUAACCAUAAAUGGAGUUCAUUAAUACUUAUAUUAUGACUUCGAUUUUCUAUUCCCUAUCCUGUUCAUGAAUUAUGUAUAUUGAGCAUUUAAACCUACAUCACUUGCAUAGUACAUGGGUGAAUUAGGAGUUGCAUAGAAGAUCCCAAUCAUAGGUUCCUUGCAAGUUAAUAACUCAUUCACCAUUGGUUCAUGGACCUAGGUAAUCCAUCUGAGGUUAUAGUGCAUUAUCUCCUAAUUAGAGAGAUGACUUACCUUGGUCAUUAGGAUGGGUUUUCCAUGAUGAGAAACUAGUGUGUUUAGUUAUGCUGGGAAACCUAGAUCUUUUCAUUCCCAUAACCCUUGAUUGUAUAGGUGCAUGCAAAAUACCCUAGGCCUCUAGAUAUUAUUCAACGUGAGAAAAAAUCAAUUUUUUAAUAUUCUAGAACCUAGAGAAAAGUCAUUAGAAAACUUUAUCUUUGAUUUGGACAGUUCUCAAAUCAAUUUUGCUUAGUGAAGAUGAAGCUUAAAGACUCCAGAGGUCUCGUACACCUAAGAUCUUUCACCCAAUGACUCAAUCCACAAUCUUGCCACUCCAUGGUGUGGGCUUUAAAAGGGUAGAAUCCUAGGCUCACUUUCUUUUUCUAAAGAUAGAAGAUGAUUGAUCUUAAAAAGCAAUGAAAACCCUAAUCCUUAAGGGGUAUUUAUAGGGUUCUCCUACUAGACUUAAGUGACUUGAGCCCACCAAGACUUAGGUCACUUAAUCAAGCUCAAAAUUGGUCUUAAUUGAUUAAUUAAGCAUAUAAGGUCAUCUAAUUAAUCAAUUAGCCCAAUCCAAAGACCUUGUUUAUUAUCCCUUGUGUAACCUUUCAUAAUUACCAAAAUACCCUUAUACAUAAGAGUGAACUUAGAGUCAAUCCAACCCUCAUAAAACUAUGCCAUAAUGGUAUAUGAGCUUAGAGUAAGGACCAAUUGGAUAGAUAGGAGGACUAACUCCUUCAUAAUCCAAUUUUGGAGUUGAUUCAACAUUCCACUAAAGAGAAUUAAUGGAACUCCAUUACCCUAUAUGAAUAAUAAUGAGAUGAAGCUUAGAUCCGUGACCUACUAUCCAUUGCAUGUAGAGUCCCCAUGAACUAAUGUCUAUAAUCUAAUAAGGUAGUGUUAUCACCUGUCAAGAUUUUCUCUUCAAUACUUAAGUUAUAGAUCCCACUUAUUAUGUGAUCAAUUGACUUUAGCUUGAAGGAGUAUAUGUCAAAUUUCCAUUAAAGGAAUUAUUAUGGCCAUAGUCUUCUAGAUCACAUGUCCUUUGGAUCACCCAAUAGGACAUAUUUUCUCAAUCUAUAAGAUAUCAUGGUGCCUCCAUUGAGAAUAUUUUUUGCCACUAGCCUCCAUCAACAGUGAUCUAAUCCAUAAGGAUAUAUGGCCACUUUAGAGUCUCACUCAUAAGUCAAAACCUCAUGUUGGCUUUGACACUAACUUAAUAUCCUCUCAAGGUUGAGAGUCCUUACCGUAUAGUAGCAUGGUGUAUCAUGACAAUUGAUAGCCUUAUGUCUUGACUCACUAUAGGUCGAGUCUAGUGCAAAUCAUAUGCACUAGUGCACUCACCAUGGGAAAACCAUCCUGGCUAUCAAGAGAAGUCAUCCCUCUUAUUAGGAGGUAGUGCACUACAAUCUUAAAUGAAUUUCCUAAAUCCAUGAACCAACCAUGGACAACUUAUCACUUUGUAAGGAACCCAUAACUUUGGAUCUUCUAUGAAACUCUUAAUGCACCCAAGUCAUGUAUAGUGUAAGUGAUGUGGGGUGUGUAUGUUCAAAUAACCAAUUAAUGCAAAUGGGAUAAUAAUAAGAAACCAAGAAGCAAAAAUAAAUAAAUUUAUAAAAGAAUCUCUAUAUCUUACAUCAUGUCAUGCUUUCAAGGGCUUAAUCCCAAUAGGCUACACAUUAGAUAGGACUUAUGGUAAGUCAGACAUUAGUUAUUAGGUAGUCAUGACUUCACCAAACAACUUUGUUGCAUGAGCUCUCAACUUUGAGAGAAUAUUGAUCUAGUGCUAAGGUCUUCAAUGACUUUGACCUAUGAGAGAGACCCUAAAGUGGUCACAUAUUCUCUAUGGAUUGGGUUACUAUUAAUUGGGACGAACAGGUAUUCUCAAAAUAGGCAUCAUGAUAUCUUAAGGGUUUGAGACAUUAUGUUCCCUUGGGUGAUCCUAAGGACAUGUGACCAUGAAAACUAUGGCCACAAUAAUUCCUUAAGUGAAAUUUGACAUAUGCACUUAGACAGAUAUAGUAUGGCAGUUAAUAAAAUAAUAGGAGGAUUUAAGAUUAAAGGAUUAUAAAGGUAGUCUUGAAAGGUUGAUAACAUUCAUCUCGUUAAAUUAUGGAUACCAAUUCAUAGGAAGCUUGCAUGCAAUUGUUAGUAGGUCAUAGCCUCAAGUCUUCUAUCUCGAUCUAAUAUCAUAGGAUACUAAAGUGUAGUUGACUCUUUAUAGUUAGAUGUUGAGUCAACUUUAAAAUUGGAUUUUGAGGGAGCUAGUACUUUUUUAUGCAUCCCGAUGGUUCCCACUUGAACUCAUAUUCCUUGGUGACAUAUUAUUUGAGGGAUAGUUGGGUUCUUUAUUCAUAUGUGUGCAUAAGAGAAUUUUGGUAAAUACAGAAGGUGACACAAGUGAUUAUACAAGAGGUAAAUAUAGAAAAAAUGAUACAACCAAAAUGAGAGUGUAAAGUAAAAUAAUAAACAGAAUAAUAAAAAACUUCUUAUGAGUACUAAGGUUUGCCUCAACUCUCCUCAUUCAAACCAUUAUCAUGCCUUUGGAUUUGGAAUUAUACCAAAUAAACAUUCAAAUCACUUUUCUUAAUGGAGAAAUGAAUGAGAAGAUCUAUGUAGAUCAAUUGACUUGUUUUAUGGCAACUAAAUAGAAGGGUAAAGUUAACAACUACGAAGGUCUGUUUAUAGCCUAAAAUAAUCUUCUAAACAAUGGUAUAUUACACUAAUUGGUUUAUGAUGGUCUAAGAACACUACUACAUGUUUAUUAAAUGGAGUAAAGGUAUAUUCUUUAUUUUUAUUUUUUUCUAUACAAAUGACAUGUUAGUUAGGGAUGACAAUGAGAUCGUCAUUGCCUCUAAAGUGUGGUGGUCAUCAAAUUUUAAAAUGAACAACAUGUUUAAAGCAAACUAUGUGCUCAAAGUUAUGAUCCUAAGCAAUCAAUAAAGUAGAAUUUUUCGUUUGUCUUACAAAUCAUACACAACAAAUAUUCUUGAAAAAAUUCUAGAUGUAAAAUUGAAAACCUAUUAGCACACAUAUAGAGAGAGUUAAAACCUUAAGCUUUAACAUGUGUCUAAGACUUUGGAUGAAAAGAAAAAGAUCACUCAAGGUUCCUAUAUAUGCUAGCAUUGUUAGUUGCUUAAAGUACCCAAUGAUAUGAACAUGAACUAAUAUUUAUUACAUAAUUAGGUUAGUAGGUUCCGGUUAGAUCCAAACCUUGCUUACAAGAAAGUAGUGAAUUGGAUGCUUUCUUACCUCAGAGGCACCAUAGGGUGUAUAAUUGUUAUUGAGGAUUGAAUUUGCACUUGAUUGGCUGUAACAAUGCUAAUUGGGGUAGCAUCCUAAAUGAACCCAAAUCCACAUAUAAUUAUAAUUUUAUAUAUGCUCCAUGAUGUUAGCAUAUAUUGGAGAAGUAGAAAACAAUCAUUUAUGACAUUGUCUAUCAUGGAGUUAGGAGUACAUUACUUAUCGUUUAGGAAAGUGACUAGUUUACAAUGUUCUUACAUAUGUUUUAUAAUGUUUCAUGUGCUUUUGAGCAUACUACUAUUUAUUGUGAUAGCAAGGAAGCUUUAGCCUAUGCCAAAGAGCCCCAACUAUCAUAGUUGAACCAAACACAUCAAUCUUAAAUAUUAGUUGUUAUAAGACAUGGUUGCAUAGGAACAUAUUUCUACACGUUUCAUGGUUACAGACUGAACCCCCCAUCCCUCCAUUGACUAAGUUAAUACGUAAAUAUGUUUAUUAGGGUCAGGUUGAGAACAUUGGAUUAUGUAGAUCAUGAUUACAUAGGAGUUAAGUUGAGAGCAUUGGAUCAUGUAGAUUAUGAUUCCAUAUUGUAUAUUUCAAUUAACCAUUAUACCUAGGAUUUAUUCAUUGUUCAAUCUUGUUUGAUGGUGGCAUGUUAUUUGCUUUACUUUAUUGGCAUGCACUUUCAUUACUUUGCACAGUGAGCAAAGUUGAAACAUAAUGAGUCUGAACCACUUAGAUAGUGUGCUAGGUCAUUGAUCCUUGUUGUGUCCAAUAUGACUUAUAUGUUAGUAGUGAAAGAGACCAAGUAUAAAUAGUCCUAUAGUCCAUACUUUACUUGUAAUGGAGUUAAUUGCCAAAUGACAUUAAUGUAGUGCUUGAUUUAGCAAGCAUAUGCAAAACUUAAGUUCUUUGCUUGAUGCAACUGAACUAAGAUUUGUAUGAUAUAGAAGAACUAAGGUACACUCAUAAUGAAGAUCUCCAUGGUAGCAUGCAUUUUCAUACUAUAUCUUCUUGGCAAUCAAAUAAGAAUGAAUGAAUAGAUUCCUCCUUCCUUGUCAUGUGUAUUAAUCUUAUAUAGGUCAUUAUAUAGUAUAACUUUUAUGCUCUUGCAAUUUUCAUUCAUAAGUUAUAAGUAUGGUGUAUUUUGAAAUAUUUUUCUAAAGGGAUUAAUGAUGCUUAAUUCAAUGUGAAUAAAUGUGUUUAAGGUAUAACAAGAAACCUUUUGGGAUGAAUUAUACAAGUUGAGAUGAAAUUUAUUUUAAUACUCCACCUUUCUUAUCAAUGUGUUCCAUAGUUGUACAAUCCAUUAGUCAAUAUGAACAUGGAUGAUAAUGAUAUAGUUGAGAGAUGCAUGACAUUGUUUUGCCUAGUAUGCAUGAGUGGGAGACAAUGGAGUUUCUAUUUCAUGAGAUACUCUCAGUAGGACUUUAUCAACUAAGAGCUUGAGAGUAAGUUGCAUACUUAUCAGUUAAGAUUCCUCUUGUGAGAGGAGGUUCACAUUCAGAUUUGGGGAGAAUCUAUAAGAGUUGUUCAUGUUUUGCAAUUCCAAUUCUAGUCCUUUCCCAUGUUUUCAAUUUAGAUUGUCGCAAUUGUUAAAUAUUUUUACUUUAGUCUUUAGCAAUUAUAAUUUUUUAAAGCUUGCUAUUUAGGUUUAGAUUUACUAGAUGCUUAUUAGAUAUCUUAAUUCUUGUUGUAUUCUCCUUGGUUAAUAAUCUUUGAUUGUGGAGUUCAAAGCUUUUUACCAAAAUAGGGAUAACGGUUUUCAAUGUUAGGGAAAGCAUUUAAUAAAAUUAAUUCUUGAAUAAGUUGGCAUGCUAAAUCUUUCAAUUGAACCUAAUAAGUUUACAUACUAAAUCUCUCAUUUUCAACCUUGGUUGUUUCCACUCUUUGCAAUUUAAUUAGGUUUUCUUUAUAUAUAUGUGUGUGUGUGUGUGUGUAUAUAUAUAUAUAUAGAUAGAUAAUUUAUUUUGUGUACCUAUAUAACUAAGUUUUUGAGUAAUUAUGAGUUGUAUUGUUACAUUUAGUAGAAUUUGACAAACUAAAUAAAUGAAGUGCUUACCUUUGAAAAAUUGAGUCCAAUAGCACAUUUGUGUGGAUAGGUCACAUCUACCAACUUGAUUCUCCAUGCUUCCUCUAUUAGGUUGACUAAGAAAAUAGUUUAAUUUCACAGGAGCACCUUAAGGACAAAAAUAUCAAGAAAAGUGAAGGAAAAUUAUGCUUCAUCUAAUAUGACUAUAGGACUUAAAUGGAAAAAAACAUAAUAAUAUAAUAGUUAUUAUAAUGAAUAUAAUAAAAAUAAAAUUUUUCAUGAUCUUCCCAAUACUCAUAAAGCCCCUUUCAAUGAAACUUUGUAAGCUCUACUAACACAAAAUAAUAGUCUGUAUAGUAAAAGCUCAAUAAAUGAGUGCUUGAUAAAUUAAUAACCUUAUUUGAAUAACAGAACCUUCUGGUCUUAACUCAGGCUAGUGUACUAAAUUAUAUAUAUAUAUUAAAAAGAAAUUCAUAAUACAAUAUUAGGUAACUUUUUAUAACUUUUAUUUUUCUAAAUUCACUUGUUUUGGAAUCAUCACAUAUUUAAAAUAUCUUUAUCUUUUACAACAUUAAGUUUUGAUGUCAUACCUAUUUUUUUAGGAGUCUUUCUAUCUUUUACAAUCAAUAACGAUCCUUUUUUUUUAGUCUCUUAGGUUUCUAUGUAUUAUCUUUUUACCAUAUGAAUUAUUUUUAAAUUUAUAAGUCAUACAUGUACCAAUAUUGUAUACUAAUAACAUAAUACUCUUUAUAAAUUAAUGAAUAUUCAUUUAUCGAUAAAUCUAAGAUAAUAAUUUUUCUUGGUCCCAAUAACAUUAUUUUAUAAGAUUUUACCCUAUAUACUUCCUUCAUUGUAGGAAUUUCUUUAGAUUAAUAUUUUUAAGUAAUAGUUGUACUUAAAAAAAUAUAUAUAAUGGAAGUUAAGAGAAUUUUGAAGUUAUAAAUUAGUGUUUUAUAUCAUUUGUUUGUCUAUGAAUGCUAAAACCAUUGUCAAAUAAAAAGAGUAAAUAAAGUAAUUAGUUAAAAAUUAAAUAAGUGACUUAAAAUUACUACUUUGGUACAUGUUUGUUUGAGGUAUAGUAGAUCGUAAGAAAUAAAAUCCUCUAGUUAUGUUUAUUUGAUAGAAUAAAAAAGUGAGUGUGUGGUUGCUCUACAAGAGAAGACCACACAUUAGUCAAAGAAAAAGUAACCAGAAAGCUUGCACAAGUGUUGAAUGAUCAAUCUCUCACCUAAGUGCACUAAUGAGAAAUAAAUGUUGAAUUAAACCAUAGUCAUGCACUCGUGCCAAGGCUCAUGCCUCCAUAUGGGAAAACCUUAAUUGCUCCAAAGUUUAAAAGUGGCCACAUCCUCUAUGCCAGGUAAGUAUUCCAAAAAUCAAGAAAGUUAACCUUUGAGUUGAUGCUUAUUUAUCUAGCAGUUUCCUCAUCCUUCUUACUAACUUGACCUUCAAAGGCUUUAUGACCAUAAGGAGCCUAGAGUGCUCACUUUUAGGUUCCUUAUGAUUGUAGGGUCCUAAUGAUCCAUUGAAGUAAGAAUGUGAACUAGGAGUUGGAAAAAUGGUGUCAUCUAUGGGAAUGCAUUAAAAGCCUUGAAGCCAUGUUUAAACCCAUAGUGGCGGUUGGGCAAUAGAAGAACCUCAUGCAAUGGACUCUUGGUAGGAAAAGGUAAUCAUGACAAAUAUGAGGUGGAGAAAGGAGUGAGAGCAAACCUUUCAACAUAUGGAGGAGCUUACUAAAAUAAGCAACUAACUCACUCAAGAGAAUGUUGCCUUUAGGGUAAGGGUGUAAGAGUACCAGUGUGAUCUUAAUCAACAGCUCUCAUUGGUUUGCACCAAUAAGAUUCAAGUCAGUGAAUAAUAGUUAUCAAAGCAAUUAGACCGACAUAUAGAUUAAAUUAGGGAAGGAGGGUGGAGGGGACCUUAAUCAUACUAACUUACCAAAGGCCUCAAUGCCUUAGGGCUUCUUGCCACCAUAGCUACCAUUAGAUGUAUAACCUUGGUGAAUAAGGAGAUUAAGCCUAGGGCCCUUCAGGAGAAGGUUGCCACAUGAGGAUUUUCCCUUCCAAAUUCAAUUUCUUUCAAUGGAACUUAAGACCCCCUAGACUACUCAUGCAUUUCUAGCAUAUAAUGAUCCCAAAAAAGGGAAAUGAUAGACUUUUAUUCAAGAUCUUCCUCUCCAGCCUCCAAGGACUAACUUUCUAUUGGCUUUAUCAACUUCUGUUAUGGUUUAUUCCUGAUAUGGAAACCUUAAGGUGAUGUUUGCCUCCUAGUACAUGAACUUAACAAGAUAGAAGAAAAGCCUUGACCAACCCAAGGUGGUUAUAGCUACCAUCCAUGAGGGAUCAUUCACUAGAUUUGAGUAACUAGGUAGGGUAUCAGGAUAUUAUAGAAGCAAAUGGUGAUUCAAGUAAAAGUCCACACAACCUUCUAUGAAGUAACUACCACUUGCCUAUAUGCCAUAUGCAUCUUUAACAAAGACUUAAGAGGACUCCAAGCCCUGCACAAGAUUUAUUGGUUAUUAGUUUAAGGAUUAUUGACUAAGACAUGCAUCUAUUCUUAGUUGACCUAAGGAGUUUAGCUAACUUACUAAAUAUAUUAGCCCAUAUACAAACAAAUGAAUAUGGAUAAAGGAAAACUAGUGUCGACUCUAGGGUAAUUGGUAGGACUAGAUAAAGUCUUGCGUGGGUUAACUAGGGAAGUCACUCUAAUAGUUUUAGUUGGUUGCUGCCAUAUAAUGACACAAUUCUUUGUUAUGGAUAUCAUUUUCCCUAUAAUACCAUUAUGGGAUGACCUUGGAUAUACAACCUAAAAGGCAUACUCUUCACCUACCAUCACAUCAUUAAAUUCGUAACACUAUAAGGAAUAUGAGAAGUAUAUUAGGACUAGGUGGUAGCAUGAGUGAUACACCAUAGCCCUUAAAGCGGUUAGGAAGUGCAUCAAUCGGGACCCAUAAGAAGUUCAUAAAUCAUAAAUCUAAUAACAAUUAACAGAUGACCCUAAAAGGCAGUUAGAGAACCUAGGGAGUCAUUACUUUAAAGGCCCUAAACCCAGGAAGUUCCUCUUGGCUCAUGCAAAAAAUGAUGUCUUAAGAUGGUUACUGGAAAAGAACCCAUCUUCGCUUGGAAACAGUAGGACAUGGUGGGUAUCAACCCCCAAGUUGCAUAUCACUAACUCAACAUAAACCUAGGUGGUUAGCUCCUUAAAGACACUAGAUUGUGAAAGAAAAGGUAUCCAGUUUCUUAGAUACUAGAUUUAUAAGAGAGGUAAUUUGUCCUAGUUGGUUAGUGAAUAAAAAUCAUCAUACCUAAGAAGACGGGAAAGUGGAAGGUAUGCCUAGACUAUACCAAUUUAAAUAAGGAUUUCCUUAAGGAUAGCUAUUCCUCACCUUGAAUAGAUUAGUUAGUCGAUGCCACCUUUGAUUAUAAGUUGAUUAUGUUCAUGGAUGUGUAUUCCAAGUAGAACCAAAUAAGCAAGCAACAAAGAAAAAAUAGCCUUUAUUAUCGGAUUAGUAACAUAUUGCUAUCAAACCAUGCUCUUUGGCCCAAAAAAAUUAAGGCUACCUACAAAUGUUCGAUCAUCUAGGUCUUUUAACUAUAAAUAGAAGUCAACAUGAAAGUCCACAUUAAUAACAUGUUAGUAACAUAUAAGAAAAGGAACAAGUACUUGAUUGACUUCCUAAGAACAUUUCAAACUCUUUGAAAGUACUAAAUGAAACUAAAUCAAUGAAGUACACCUUUAAUGUAGGGUGUGGAAAGUUCCUUAAGUGCUUGGUUACAUACAAAUGAAUAGAAAUUAACCUAGACCAAAUAAAAGCAACUUUGGAGAUAUCAAUGACUAAAAUUGUUAGAGAAGUCCAAGAGCUCACUAACAAGAUUGGUGCUUGAAAUAGAUUCAUAUAUUGGAUAAUGAAUAAAUGUCAUCCUUUCUUCGACAUCAGCAAGAAUGGAAAAUGGACUAAAGGAACCAAAAAGUGCAAAUAAGCUUGCGAAUGACUAAAGCAUUACAUGAUGCUACCCCCCAUUUUGGAUAAACCUUCGGAUAAGAAGGUCUUAUAAGGUCUUAUAAGGUCUCAUUAGCAACUAUAAGUGGAAUAUUUGCUCAAAAAGAAGGAAAAGAGGAGCAACCAAUGUACUAUGUCUAAAAAGCCCUCUUAGGUGUGGAAACGUGAGAGUAUAUAUAAAUAUUGAAAAGUUGGUGCUUACCUUUUAGAUCACCACACUAAAACUUCAAUGUUAUUUCCAAGUGCAUGUUAUUAAGGUAAGGACCAAGUGAUGAAAACUCAAACUUAACACUUUAAUGGCUCUAAAGAGCCUACUUUGGUGUUUUGAGGCACUAAAAAAUUAACCCAAUGUUUUGUUUUGUUGAUAAUACCUUAGAAUAUUAUGUUUGAUGCAUUCUAUGAGCAUUCUACAGGCUUUAAGGUGUUUUUGGUGCAAUAGAACCUUGUUGGGAACUCAUGGAGACAAAAAUGCCUAAGUAGGAAGGAAACACAUAUUGCACACCUAAAAAGUGUGCAAGACUCAAUCAUGCACUUUGUUUUUAGCGUAGAGCCACAUAGUGAUGGGAAAAUCCUAGAUCUCUUUGUUUCCUAAGCUCGGAUUAGGUUAGAAACAUACAAAACUAUCCUAGGCUUUUCUAAAUCCUAUGCAUAGUAGAAAAUUUGCAUUUUUAAACUUUAUACGGAUUUAGAAUAUGCUAAUGAAAAAUGUACCUGAGAUUUGAAUGUUCUUGAAUCGAUUCUACGCAAAGAAGAUGAAGAAUGGAGUCCCAAGAACUCUUGUAAACCCCGAGCCUUUCGCCUUAUAACUUGAACCUUAAUCUUGACACACUUUUGGUAGGGAUAGAAGGAAGGGUAGAGGCUAUGAUUCUCUUUCUAGAGAUGGAAGAAGCCUUUCUAGAAAAAGUUAUGGAAACCCUAAGCCCUAAGGGGCUAUUUAUAAGGUUUUCCCACUAGGCUUAAGUGAUUUGAGCCCACUAUAGGCUUGGGUCACUUAAUCUUAACCCAAAACAGGUUCUAAUUGAUUCAUCAACCCAAUAGGGCCUACUAAUUAAUUAAUUAACCCAAUCUAGAGACCUUGUUCACUUACCACGAUGCAAUCUUGCGUAAUUACCAAAACUCCCUUAUGCACAAAAGUGAACCUAUAGCUAAUUCGACCCUCAUAACCCAUGCCAAUAAGGUAUAUGAUCUUAGAGCAAGGACCAUUGGGACCCAUAAGAGUACUAGCUCCCUCAAAAUCCAAUUUUGAAGUUGAUUCAACAUCUUACUACAAAAAAAAAUCAACUAAACUAUAAUAUCCUAUGUAAAUAACAACAAGACACCAUGUGUUAAUGUCCGUGACCUACUAUCCAUUGCGUUUAGUCUUCCCAUGAACUGGCGACCAUAGUCCAACAAGGUGAAAACUAUCAUCCUUUCAAAACUACCUCUACUAUCCUUGAGUUAUAGAUCCUCUUAUUUUGUGUUCAAUUGACAUGUAUUACCUCUUAAAGAGUCUAUGUCAACUUCCACUUAAGGAACUACUAUGGCUAUAGUUUCCAUGAACACACUUCCUUAGGAUCACCCAAAAGGACACUCUAUCUCAAUACUAAGAGAUAUCAUGGUGCUUUUAUCAAGAAUUCAUAUUGCUAAUAGCUUUCAUCAAUAGUGACCCAAUCUAUAGGAAAUAUAUGAUCAGCUUAUGAUCUCACUGGUAGGUUAAAUCUACUACUAACUUUAGAACAAACUUAAUAUCCUCUCAAGGUUGAGAGACAACACAAUGAAGUAGUUUAGUGAAGUCAUGACUACUUGAUAGCCUUAAGUCAUGACUCAUUGCAGGUCUUGUCUAAUGUGUAACCACACACACUAAUGCACACACCAUGGGAAACCCAUCCCGAUAGUUAGAACAAGUCAUCCAUCUAAUUAGGAGGUGAUGCCUUACAACCUUUAAUGGGUUGCCUAGACUCACGAAUUGGCUAUGAAUAAGUCAUCUAUUUGCAAGGAACUGUGAUUAAUUUAGAUCUUCCUUGUAACUCCUAAUGCACCUAAGUCAUGUAUAAUGCAAAAGAUGUAGGUUAGAGUGCUUACAAGGUAUAAUGCAUGGAAAUAGGAUAUAUAAAAGUGAACUAGAACUUUAUUAAACAAAUAAUAAAAUCCUAGAGUUUAUUACAUCAUGUCAUGCUUUUGAGGACUUUAUCCUAACAUAUAAUGCACCUCCCAUGUAUGUAUUGAAGACCAAACACAUAAGAGCUCUCUAAUGUAUUGGACCAAAUUUUGCAUCCUACUCAAGCAACUCAAUCUAUAAACCUCUUAAGUGCUCUAAGCCAAAAUGUUGUGCACCCCUUUGCUUAAGUCAGCAGGAUGUGUAGUAGUACACCCCCUUGAUGUCAUCUAAAUUACAAACCAUUCUUACCUCUACAAUAGCUAUGUCCUCCCAAAGUAGCAUGUUAUUUAUAAAGUCUUCAAUUCUAUUACCAAAACCUACUCGAUGUUGAUUGCAUAGAGAAAAAAGUGCAACUCCCAACCAUAAGCUAACAUAUCAAGAAUGAUGGUGGGUUGACUACACUGACCAAGGAUCUGACCCUCAAUAUAGGCAAGAGACAAGUCCAGAUGGGUUGGUGUUGGAGUAGUUGGAAUGGAGAGAGUAUUUUUUACCUAUAAAUGGAGGAUUGUAAAUAUAUAAGUAGAAGCAAAUUAUAGAAAGCGAAAUAGUAGAUAAGUUUUUCUUCUCGUAGGAAUAGGAGUAACUUAAUGUAGUUUUAGUUUUUAGUUUUCCAUUGUGAUAUUUUUAUUUCUUUAUAAACUUUCCCUAAUUUCUAGUUUAAUGGAUUUUACAAUCUUUUUUAUUAAUCUUACAUUUCAAUUUUUCAUUUUCAACUUACAAAUUUACAUUUUCAGUUACUUCCUUAAUUUUUAACAUACUUAUAUAACCUUUGACACUCUAAGAGGUGAGAGGAGCUUAGGUCUCCCAUCAAUAAGUUUAGCUCUCUACUCAUUUAUUUAUGCAUUAGUUAUAAAGAAUUUGAUAUCUAUCGGUAGUUACGAUGACCAAAAGGAGUAACCAUGGGCAGAAAAGUCUAUGUUACACUGGUUGUGGGGGUUGUAAUUUAAGUAGCCUUGGGAGCAUAUUUUGGCAUUGUUUUAAUAAUUUUUUCAACUAAGUAUAGGCUUAUUGACAUGAAAAGAACCUCAUCUAAAUCAUUUGGUUGCAAGGAUAAAAAAAAAAGAGCAGUUAGAGGGAGAUGAACCUUAUUAAGACGGUUAUUGUUCAUUUCAAGCAAGAACCUUUUGUGGUAUAGAUCCUUGGAUUAAUCCUAAACUUGAAAGCAUAAGUUCACAACCUCGUUGGUAAGUUGUAUUUGAAAAUGGUGAUCCUAAUAAAUCUCUUGUUUUUGGGUUUUCUUUUCUUUAAUUUUCUAUCUUUAAAACUUUUUGUGUGUGUGUCUUUUAUUUAUAAAAUCAUUUUUCUAAUCUUUUAGCUAACAUUCACACCCCUAAAGCUAUUACCUCAGUUGCUACCAAUUUAUAAUUCCUUGUGGAGGCAACCUAACGGCUAUACAACUAUUAGUUUUUUUUUUUUUGGUUCAAGAGUUGAGAGUUUUAAUUAAUGAUCUAGUUUAAUUCCUCUUUGUAAAACUUGACUAUUAAAUAUAUUUUUAAAUUUUGGUAAAAAAAGGAACUAGAGAAUGACAAACAAAAAAUUAGUGUUGUUGCCAGGGACUUUUCAACAUUGACUACUCUAGAGGUAUUUUUGGGUAUAUGUUUGUUGUUUUAAAAGCUUAGCAAGUAUAUUUCACCCAUUCCCUACCUAUCUUUUAGUUGGAUUUUUAUUUAUUUUUACUUAAUUUGUUUUAUUUAGAUUUUUUUUUCUUUAUUUUUUUUGCUUAGUUUUCACUUUCAAUUGUUAAAUCUAACAUUACAAGCAUGUUCUUUAUUAGGGAAAUGAUUUUAGAAAAAAGACACUAAGUAAUCAACCAAACCAUAGUUAUCAUUUUCCUCAACACAUUAGACCAUAACCACCUUAUAUCUAUUUUCCAAAUUCAAGCAUUGGUAGUACUAAUAGAAGUAUGAUGAAUGGGGAUUUUAACCCAAAUAACUAGCUAGCCAGGACCAUAAGGGUUACCUACAACCCAAGUCAAUGCUUUCUUUUAAUUGAUAUUUCCUUUUGAAUAUUUUCAAAUAAACAUUGAGCUUGUAAUGAUCCAAUUGGUAUCUUUAUCUUAUGGAAGGGAUGAUGAAAAUCCUUAUACUUAUUUAAAAUAAUUUGAAGAGCUAUGGUCUAUUUUGGUAGAACCUUCAUGAAAUCUAGAUCAUUUGAAACUCAAGGUUUUUUUUUUUUUUUCAUUAAAGAAAAAGGCUAAGCAUUAGAGGUAUAACCCAAGACUCUAUAGUAUAAGUUCUUGGGCUACUUUACAAAAUAUUUUUAAUAUUUUUUUAUUUAUUUUUUGUUUUGUAAAGAAGGAGACCUUGCAUAAUUGUUGGGAUCAGUUUAAAGCUUUGUUGCUCAACUUCCUUACCAUAGUUUUGAAAACUUAAGGAUUGCUUCUGCUUUUUAAAAGAGACCAUCUCCCUAAAUGAAACAAUUUGUUGAAAACAUGAGUGAUGGUUAAUUUAUAUAGGAGAAACCACAAGAAACACUUAAACAUUUAAAUUUGCUUGCUGAAAAAUCAAGGGUUUGGAACCCCUUAGUCCCUCGAGUACAUCUUCUGGAACUUGAAAACCAACCCCAACAACAUAUAGUCUCUCAUCCCAUCUCUCAAUUUAUCAUUUUCUCUUGGAACAAGAUUUUUGAAGAAGAUGAUCUUUGGAUGCUAUAAGAGGAGGAAGUCGCUGAAGUUGAGGAAAAGGAAACUAUGUACAUAGUAGAUUGAAAUGAAUUUGUUGAAUAAGAAUUAGUUGAAGAAGAGAAUUUCCAAUAGGUUGCAAAUAAGUUUGUAAGCUUCAUUUUAAAAAAAAAAUUUCAAAAAUAGAAAAAGAAAACUAUAAAGAGUAAGAAACAAAGAAGGAAUGAAACAAUGUAUUACAUUCUCACACUAGCUUUAUUCUUCCUCAGUUUUCCUUCUCGUUGCAAACUAAAAAUAUUGAGCUUCAAUUUUUAGAAGCUAGCCAACAAUUUGUAAAAAGCUUUCACUUUUCUUUUCUUCAUUAUUUUUAUUUAUGUUGCUCUUGCAACUUGAGUGUGUAGUAGCACCAUCAUUGUGAAGCCUGUAAUAUUACAUUCUCAGUACACUCAAUGCAUUUGGGUGACCUAUAUCAUCUCAUAAGAACUCAAGUAUAAAUUUCUCCACACUCUAUUGGUUUCAUCAUGAUUCAAAGUACGUGUAAAUUGUUAGCACUAGGAAGGCGCACAAAAGUGUUGGAAAUAUAGGAAUUCCAUACCUUUGAGGUGCAUUGCCCAACUUGUAUGAUGACUUAAAUUGUGCAUCUAUAAAGCACAACUCAAAUUGUACACCUUGAAAGCAUGACUUAAAUUCCAUACCCUAAGAGAAUAAUUUAAAUGGUACACUCAAAAGAGCGCAACUAAAAAUUACAUACCUUUGAGCAACCUUUUAUAUUGCAUAGCUUAUGUGUGCACAAUUUAAAUUACACAUCAUAAGAGUGCAAUCAUUUCCCAUGGGAUGCCAACUUAUUCUUUUGUAUUAUUAUCCAAGCGUGUUGUCCCUAGUAAAAAAUCUUUAUUCUCUUAUGCAAACUUUUUGGAAGAAAAAUAUCUUCUUAAACAAAACCAUAAUUUCCUAUAAUUUCUUAGAGACUUUUGUCUAUCCCACCAUCAAUGUAUCAAUUAUGGUGUAGGUAGGAAAUCGAGCAGCUUUCUAAGUUUUAUAUAAAGGAAGUAAUUUUAAUACUGUUUGCAUGUGCUCAAACAAGAACACACACAAUAGUGCAAUAUGAAAACUCUGAAGAAUGGUAAAAACCAAAACACUGAGCCUAAAUGAGACAAUGAAGAGAGCUAAAAAUGAACAAUCAAGCCAAUUUAUUGAAGUAAAGGUGACUAAACCAGUCACUAUAGUAGCCAUAAUACUAGAACAACCCAACAGAGCAUUUAGUAGAAUGAACAUUCAAACAAAAAAAGAAUCACGUUAAGGUUAAUAGCGUUGACCACGUCUUCAAUUAUUAUUGCUUAAUCUUUAGGAUAAUAACAUCAUAUAAUGAGCAUUUGAAGCUAACAAUGGGUGAUAUUGAACUUUGUCGGUCAAUCUCACCCUUAGUGAAGAAUUCAAUUAAGUAAUAGUCAGAGGUUGAACAGGAUAAACAAAAAUACCCCCAAGGAACUCAAAAUCUCAAGACUAUACAAUUUUUCAAGAGCCCCUGAUAAAUAUAACUUCUUUACCUAAUUUUUGCAUCAUUUUUGUUUUCUUUACCUUUUUCUUUUAACAAUCAAAUCAAGUAAAAUAAGCUUAGUUUUAAAUAUUUUAAUUCAAGCUCACAUCUGGAAUUAAUCUACUUAAAUGACUUAUUAAAAAUCAUCAUCUAAGUAAUGAAGUACCAUAGUGAACUUAGAGGAACCAAAAAGAAAUGAGUUUUCCUAAAAGUUUCUCUUUAAUCUAGUCUCACACACCAUGCACUAUAGUGUUAGGGUACUCAUACUUCUCAGGAGAAGAACUGGUGGCAACUUGAGAAAUAGAACAAACUCAUUGUAGAUAAAGUGUUAUGAUAAGAUUUGCUAUCACCAACAUCCUAUAGGAGGACGCAAUGAAGAGCAACUAAAGGAAUCCAUUUAUUACUUGAAGCUUGGUGGUAAUUCCCCAAGGGUGCUUUAUCACCUAGUGCCUUAUACCAACUGGUCUGGGAGUCAUAUAUUGAAAUCCAUUACAUAAGCAACAAGAAGGUGACAAAGUCUACAUUCUUUGAUGAAUGAACUUUUAAUUUUUCAAAAAACAAAAAGGGCGAGUGGAGGAAGGGAAGUGAAAGUAUAUUAAGGAAAACAAUUUGUCUCAAACUUAUGCCCUAGGAACUUGCUAUUCCUAAGACUAAGGGGUGUUAGUUUGAAAAAUCAAAAGAUAGAGGAAGGGAGAAACAAUAGUAAAAACUACUAAACUUAAGGAACCUUUUGUAUGCGAAGAUCUAGUCACACCUAAGUAAGGGCUGAUUUGAAAAUUUUCUUUUAAUGUAUUUAUUUUGUUUCAUUUGAGCUCUCUUACUUUUUGCGUUUUCUAACUCAAACUCAACACUUUAAUGGCUCUAAAUAUCUCACUUUAAUGUGUGAGGUACUCAGAAUUAACCUAAUGCAUUGUUUGACAAUACCUUAAACAACUAUAUUUGAUGAAUUUUGUGAGCAUUUUGUAGGCUUUAAGGUAUUUUUGGUAUAACAUAGCCUUUUUGGGAACUUGCAUGGACAAAAAUGUGUAAGUAUAGAGCAAACACAAAUACCUCACCUCUUAGGUGCACAAGACUUAAUAACAUGCCUCUUUUUUAGUGUAAAUCCAUAGUACACCUCCCAUGUACACCCUAAAGACCAAGUUGUGCACCCACUCAAACACCUUAAUUUGCACCUCUCUUAAGUGCUCUAAGCCUAGCAGUUGCAUACCUUUUCACUUGAGUCGGUAGGAUGGCCAGAGGUGCAACUACUCAAGAUCUAAAAUGUGCAAUCUUUUUUCAAUAAUAGAAUGCACUCUUAGGGGUAUUCUAACCUUACAUACCAUUCAUAUCUCCACAAGAGUUGUGUACUUAAUCAUUCUUCUAAUUAUUAGUGUACUCACAAAAGUAGCACAGUCAUGCAUGCAUCAAAGUCUUCAAUUGUAGUACCAAAACCUACGUAAUGUCGACAACACAAAAAAUGAGGUGUAGCUACCAACCCCAAGCUAAUACAUUAAGAAUCAUGAUCAAUUGACUACAUUGACAUAGGACUAAAUUUUGGUGUUGGAGUAGUUGGAACAAGGGGAAAUUUUUUUGCCCAUAAAACUAGGAUUGUAAAUAAGUAGAAAUAGAUAAUAGAGAAUUAUAUAUUUUUUCUUCCUCAUACAAAUAAGACUAACUUGAUGCAGUUUUAGUUUUCAAUUUUCAUUUGUAAUCUUUUCUUUUCUUUAUAAAAUUUCCCUUAUUUCCAAUUUAAUGAAUUUUCUAGUUUUUUCAAUUGAUCUUACUUUUCAAUUUUUUAGUUUUAGCUUAUAGAUUUAUAUUUCUAUUGAUUUCCUUAAUUUUUAACAUGCUUAGAUAACUUUUAACACUUUAAGAGGUGAGAGGAGUUGAGGUCUUCGAUAUCUUAGUUCAACUCUCUAUUGGUUUAGUUGUGCAUAGCUACAAAGAAUUUGAUCUUUGUUAGUAGUUACAAUGACUAAAAGGAGUAACCAUGGGGAUAAAAGUCUAUGUUGCAUCGGUUGUGACGAUCACAAGUCAAGCAACCUUGGGAGCAUGCUUAAGCAUUGUUUAAAUGAUUCUUUUAACUAAGCAUAAGCCUACUAACAUGAAAUAAAAAAAUAAAAAAAUAAAAACUAUCUAAAUCAUCUAGUUGCAUGGAUCCAAAAGAGGGCAAUUAGAGAGGAAACUUAUUCAGGUGGUUCUUGUUUAUUUCAAGAAGCAAUCUUUUUGGGUAAAAACCCUUAGCCUAAUGUUAAAGCCAAUAUCAUAGGUUCAGAGCCUUAGUGGUGAGUUGUACUUGAGAGUAAAAAUCCUAACAAACCUCUAAUCCUAGGGUUACUUUUUUUUUUUUUGCCUUUUAAACUCUUUCUCCCUUUCUUUCUUUCUUCUUCCUCUCUCUCUCUUAUUUAUAAAAUCAUUUUUUUGAUUUCAAAAAAUGGUGAAAUACAAAAUAGAACUAGCCUAGCAAAUUCGAUAUAUGUUAUGCCCAUGUGUUGCAUUCAAAUUGUAAUCUCUUGUUAAAUUCAUGAUAAAGUUUACUAGUAUUAUGAAAAGGUUUAGGGGAGUUAUAGAUAGUGAAAUGAUCGAUUCAAAUGACUUUGGCAUUAUGAGUGUAUGGAGCCUCCAUUGUAAAGGGCUUAGCAAUUGGGAUACACUACUAUGCUCUCCCGAUAGGGUUUGAAAUCAACCUAUCAAUGUAGUUAGAGUAUUUGACAACUAAUAAGGAAUUGGAAUACAAGGUCCUACUAGCUAGCUUACCUUUGGCAAAAGAGGUGGGGGUUUUCUGCAUACAAUUAUAUAACUAUUUGUAACUUAUUAUCGAAAAGAUCACAAGACAUGAUGAGGCUUGGAAACCUCAAUUAUGACCUUGCUAAAAUAUUAUUUAAGCCACUAUAUGUGACCUAUAGAGGUUCCACCUUAGCCUUAUCCCUAAAGAAGCUAACCAACAAGUAUAUACCCUAGCCACACAAGUACUAGCUCACCUACGGGAACCUCAAGUAUACGUUACAUAACCAAUAGUGGAAACAUCCCACUUUAUUGUUGAGGUUCAUUAUUGGAUCUUCAAUAACAUGCUUCUAAAAAAUCCCUAUCCUUUAGUACCUCCUCGAGAGGAAGCAAUUAUAAAGGGGAAAAUGAAGCACAGGGGCUCUAAAAAAAAGUUGUAAGGUCGUAUACUAUCAUGAAUUGUGCCAGCUCCUAUGAUGGACCCUACCUAUGUUGCAUAGAUGAGGAAGAUGCUCGAUAUAAUGAAAUUAUCUACAAUGACCUAUUAUUCAUUUCUUUGGGAUACCAUGGGUCAUAGUAUCAAACAAUGGAUUCCAAUUAACCACCCAAAACUUCUAAGAUUUAUAUAAGGAAAUGAGAAUUGAGAAUUGUUACCAUAUUUUGUGGUACCCUUAAGGCAUCCAACCAGCAAAGGCCAAUAAUAAGGUAAUAGUGCAUGAACUUAAGCAAAAAGUUGGAAAAAUCUAAGCGAAUGUGAGUGAAGCAACUUUUCACUAUACUUUGAUCUUACAAAACCACUCAAAGAACGUCUACCCGAGAAGCACCUUACUUUCUCACAUAUAGGAUAGAGGUGAUCAUUUUAACUAUGAUUAGAAUGCCAACCUUGUGUACCUAAAUGAGUAGCAAAGAAGUGCUUGUUGCUAGAAAACAAGAUUUUGAUCUAGUUGAAGAAAGAAAGCAAGUGACACCCAUAAAGAUGAUUAUCUACUAGAGCAAGAUAACCAAAAUCAUAAUGGAAUAAAAACAAGACCCUUGCAUGAAAAAGAUUGAGUUUUGAGAAGGACUUUCCAUGAAAGCUAAGAAGAUGAAAAAUUAUCCUCCCUGUGGAAAGGACGAUUCCUAAUUAAAAGAAUGGGGACACAAUGCAUAUUAGUGGGAUGUUCUUGAAGGAAAGUUUAUACCAUGACCAUGGAACAUGUGCCACCUAAUAAAAACCAAAAUUUAUUAUCUUUAAAUAAAGAGAAACCUUUGGAAGAAAAAUCAUCUAACCCCUAGUGGGCAUAUUUCCUUUUAACAAGCAUAUUACUCUAAUGGGUGCCUUACCUUUCAACGAGAAUCUCUUCCUUAAUGGGUAUCUUGCCUUUUAAUAGUCAUUUUAUCCUCAAUGGGAAUUUUGCCCUUAACAGUUGUCUUAUUCCCUAGUAGACAUCCUAUCUUUUAAUAAGAACCUUGUCUCUAGUAGGGUUUCUACCUUUUAAUAGGCAUCUAAACUAAAUAGGCACCUAAACCUAAUGGGCACCCUUCCUUUUAGCAUAACAAAGUAACAACAUCAAAGAUAAAAAUAGCAAAAUGUAAAGCAUAAAAAGGUCAUAAAGGCCAUCUAAUGUAAUAGAGGCACAAAAGCCAUAAACAAACCAUGACACAAUGGCAAACAAGUGUUUAAGGGUGUGCAGGCCAAACUCCAAAUAAACAACGUAUUAAUUACUCCUCCGAUCUAAUGCAGAGGACUUCAGAAUCUCCCAUAACUUGUAAUAAAAUUAGAGUUAUCUUCGAGGAUCCUUUUAAAGCAGGUUAGACACUAUUCUUGGCCUAGAUGGCUUGAUUAAAGGCUCCAAAAUUGGGUUGGUGUCUUUUGAGGCAUUUUCCUUUAACAUUUGGAUUAUCUCUUUAAGAUGGACUUCAUGCCUAGCAAUAUCCUCCCCUGAUGGAGCAAACUUGAUGUGCAAAAUUUGUGAACACUUGAACACUUAAACUACAUGGGCCUUGAAAUAAAUAAUGCAUUCGACCUUUAGGUUUUCCAUCUCCAUAAACUUUUCCAAUAAAAUUUGAAUACAAAUUUUUUUACUAUUGACAAAUGUUGUGCUCCCACUACUAACCUCCUUUAGCUUUCCCUUUAGGACCCACACUUCCUCUUGCUUCAAUCAAAGCUCUUCUAUGACCUUCCUAUAUAUAUGUUGCUCACUCAUAGUGUGGUCCUUAAGUGCUUGUGAUGUAACCCAUAAUACGAAGAGACCCACCAUCAGGAUGUUCACUCAAUCAAAUUGCACCCCUAGCUCCCUACCACUUAGUUCCUUUAAACUUGCUAGCACCAACUUAAUAUGGUUCAUGUUUCACCUCUUGAACAAGCAACCAAAUAGAGGGCAAAGACGCACACUACGACCAAAUAAAGGGUAGCCAAAAGGGGGGAAAAAGAAAAGCUACUCACAACAUUUGAGUCAAGAAAGAGGGAAAGCAUGGAAAAAAUCUCAUAGAUCAACAUACCAACCAACCAAAGAGUAGCUUAUGGAGCAUUAAAGAAAGAUAAUUAACCCACAAAGCCCCUAAGCUUCUGUCUUCUCAAAGGAAGAUUCCUGUAUGCAAAAUGGUGGAUAAGAGCCUAACUAAUAGUUUUGUCCUAUUAUUAUGAUUCCACUAUAAUCAAUUUGCUAGAAAUAGGAAGGUAGGAGAGGGUCCUUUAAAGAAUGGGGGACAUAUCAAAAUAGGAGAAAAAACAAUUAGGGGAACAUGAAAAGGAAUAGAUGAGAUCUAUAAUUGAAACCUCCAUGGAUUUAAUAGAGUUAAGUAGAUCGGAGGACUUAAAAAAUAAAAGCGAUUUUCUAGAUUCCUGAUAAGAGAGCAUGAGGGACCGAUACAUGAGAAAGGCACGUUUGGCUACCUACAACUCACCUAUACUUUUGUUUGAACAAUUUUAUGAAAUGAAAAAAGAUAUCUAACAUAGGAGGUGAGAAAGCAUGAGCCCAUAAGCAUGAUCAAACAAGGCUGUAAGUAGGUUUUGUUAGGAUGGAAUCAUAGAGUGGGUGCUCUAAGAUCCUAGAGCAACUAGAUCUAAGAACAACAGAAGCAUAUACAUUUCAAAUAUUUAGAUAUAGGUGUUAAAAGGCAUACCUUUACAUCUAGAUGUUCCUAGAUCAUACUCUAGUUAUUACAGGGAUCUAAAAAAACUUGGUGCUUCUACCGAUGACUUUGUCUUUAAUCCUUGGAACAAGUGUAAAGUGACUACACACCUUGAGAAAGAGAGUACUUAAUGUUUUCUCUAGAAGAGCAAUGAAUGAAUAGAUGGAUAGAUAGAUUGAUAACUUGACCUCAAACCCUCAUCAAUCUAACCUUAAACCCUAAGAGAGUUUAUAUAACUUCUUUUGUAAGCUAAUGUGACUUAGGCCCACCAUAGGCUAAGGUCACUUAACCUAGUCAACUAGGUACUAAUGAAUUAAAUAGUUCUAAUGAGCUUCAAUUAAUUAAGUGGCUUAAUAAAAAAAACUUAAAAUACACUACAAGAAAAUGUACUUUUCGUGACAAAAAUUUAGUGGUGAAUUCUACUUUUGUCGCUAAAAGUAACAUUUACCGAUGAAAUUUUAGAUGUUGUCAAUAAUGCCAAUUUUCUACAAACUUUUCCUAACAAAUUUGAAAUUUUUGUCAUUGAAAGAUGUGACAGGAAAAUUUGGCGUUUUGUUUUUGGCGCAAACACUUUUGUGACGAAAAUAAACUAUUUCCCUACGAAAAUAUUUAUCACUAAUUAUAAUUUUUGGUGAUGAAAAUAAUUUCCUCACUAAAAGUUACAACUUUUUAUCUAUUUUUGCUUACAAAAUGGUUUCGUCGAUAAUUAUAUUAUUUCCUAACAAAUUGAGUAAUUUUUUCAUCAAAUCAUGUUAUUAAAUUGUGAUAUUAAUAAAGAAUAUUAAUAAAUAAGUAGAUGAUUUAUACUAUGAAAUAAUAUAAUAUAUAUUUGUUGACACUUAAUAUUUAUACUAUAAUAUUUUAUUUAUAUAAAUAAUAAUAAAAAUUAAGGAUCCAUAAAAUUAAAUACUAGAAUGUAGAUUUAUUUAAAUUUAAAUGUUCUAUUAUGUAAUAAUAGUAUUGUUAUGAAAUAAAAAAAUGUAAAUUAUUUAAGCAAUUAAUAUUUAUAGUGUAACAUGUUAUUUAUAUAUAUAUAUAUAUAUAUAUAUAUAUAAAUAAUAACAAUAGAUAAUCCAAGAUAUGUAAGAUUACAUCCUAUGAUAUAAAUUUAUUUAAAUUUCAAUAUUAUUAUAUGGUGCUACACAUACAUAAAUAUUACUAAAUGAUUUUUAUUAUAUUAGGUAAAAGUUAUCCAUACAAGUCCAAUGUAGUAUUAAAUUUAUGUUAGCUAUGAAUAAGUUAUAGUCCUCUAAUUUGUUCUCAUUCAAAAUCAUACCUUAUCCACUCAAGAAGUAAAUUUCUACUAACAUUUAGUUACCUAGUUUAAAUUAAUAGAUUUUUUUUAAUUAUUACUUAGUUUUUAAAUAAUUGGUUAGAAUUAAAUUUCUCAAAUAAAUUGUCUAGUGUCUAUAAAAACAUUCUACCUACAUAAAAUUCCAAAUAUUAUUUAUGUGUAUGAAGAUAUCAUAUAUUAUUAAUAAAUAAAUAAGUAUAAGUUAAAUAUUAUAUGAUAUAAUAUAUUGCAAGUACUAUAUGCCUAGCUCUAUUUUCAUAUUUACAAAAUAAAAAAUGUACAAUAUAUAUAGCACAUGUGAAAUUCUAUAUAAAUAUAAAGUUUUUUAAAAAGUUUUCAAUCACAUCUUUAUUAAUAAUUGGUUAUUUUAUUUUUUAUUGAUCAAUUUUAUAUUUAUUUUUUUAAAUUAUUAAUUACUAAUUUAUCAAAAUUGAUUAGUUAUUAAGAAUAAAGUCUUAAAUUAUACCGCAAAUAACUUGUAAAGGAGUUUUUAUACUUGUAUGCAUUUUUAAUCAAAUAUUUAAAACAAAUAUAGUUAUAAAAAUAAUUAAAAUAUAUCAUAAAUUAUUAUAUGAUUUAUAUUUAUAGUGUUUCAUUAUGUUUGAUAUUUUUGUUUGGAAUAGAUGAGAAAGGGAAAGAAAAAAAAUGAUGUAGAAUCCUAAUUUCAUUUUGAUCAUUAUUUUAUUAAUGUCAAUAUGAGUAUUACACUUUGGCAUUCUCCUAACAUUGUCUUCCAAUUGUACUUUUAUUUUAUAUUUCAAAUUUAUCACUUUAAUCCAUAAGUCUGGAAUUGAAUUUAUUCUAGCUAUUAAUAAACUAUAGUCCUCUAAUUUGUUCUCAUUCAACAUUAGGUUUGUUUAGAGGUGACAAAAUUUGAUAUGACUUGUCAAUAUGACUUGAAUUUAACACCCUUUCAUGAUUUAGGGUUGAGUAUAAUUGAGUUCAAGUCAAAUUCAUGUCGACUUGCAUACCUUAUUUAAUAAAUAAAUAGUGUUGGCCUUAUGGGGGGGCUAACAACCACCCUAAUGGACUAUGGAGAGUAAGCUUAAAUAAUAUAAGAUCUCCAUUCUAAUCACCAAUUAGUUUUCAGAACAAAUGGGGGUCUUGUCAUAAGAUACUCCGUGGUUAAGCAUGUUGCAGCAAAAGAAAUCUUAGGAUGGGUGACCCACUAGGAAGUAUAGAGCACCUCGAUCAAUAAGUGGUAUCAGAGCCUGGUCACAUGAUUGAUGGGUGAGCUAGCACUGUGGGUGAAUGGUGAAGGCCUGGGGUGUGGCCAAGUUAAACAAAGACGGUAGGCUAUCACCGACUUUUGGGACAAAUUUGAUUUUUUUCGUGACAAAAAUUCUUAGUUUUGUCGAUGAAAUAUUUCGUUGGAAAACACUUCUAGUAACAAAAUUUUAUUUCAAGGAAAACUUUAGGCGACAAAAUAAGAUUUUUGUCAUGGAACUUUUAGUGACGGAUCUAGGGCGAUGAACAAGGCACGAAAGAAUUUUCAUUGGGGAAUGUUUUUGUAGGCAAAAUUUAGACUUUCAAUGACAAAAUAUUUUAUCGUUGAAAGUCAAUUUUCUUGUAGUGAUAAAUAGUCAUAAGUUUUUGUGCAACUUUUAUUUUUACCAAAAUGCCCUUAUGCACACAUAUGAUUAAUUAAACCCAAUUUCCUCAAAUCUUUAUGUCAAUAAAAAUUAUGAACUUGAGCAGGGAUCACUAGAACCCAUAGGAAAAUAUAAGCCCCCUGAUAAUCCAAUUCUAAAGUUGACUCAGCAUUCCACUAAAGAAAAUCAACUACAUUCCAAUGUCCUAUGAUAUUAUAUUGAGAUAAAAUUGAUUAAAUCUAAUUUAAUUAAUUUCUUAAGCUUGUGACCUACUGUCCGCUGCAGAUGGGUUCCUUAUGAGCUAAUGUCCAUAAUCUAAAGAGUUAAUAACUAUCAACCUUAGAAAAUUACCUCUAUAGGAUUACUUAUACAAUCCUUGAGUCUCACAUCCUCCUAUUUUGUGAUUAAUUGACAUACACUAGUUCAUAAAGAACAUAUCUUCAAUCCCACUUAAGCAAUUGUUGUGGCAACAAAUUUCAUAAUCACAAGUUAUUAGGAUCACCUAAUAGGAGACACCAUAUUAAUCUCAUGAGAUAUCAUAAUGCCUUUGUUGAAAAUGUUUAGUGUCACUUGCUUUAAUUAAUAGUGACCCAAUCUAUAGGGAAUUUGUGACCACCUUAGAGUCUUAUCCACAUGUUGAACCCUUUAAAGACCUUAACACUACCUUAAUAUUCUCUUAUGAUUGAAAGUCUAUGUAACAUAGUAACUUCUUAAAGUCAUAACUACUUGGUAGACAAUGUCAUGAUUCAUUGUAAGUCUUGUCCAAUUUGUAUACACACUAGUGAACUCAUCAAGGGAAACCUAACUCAAUAACCAAGAUAAGUCAUCCCUCAAAUUAGGAAAUAGUGCACUAAAACUUUAAAUGGAUUGCCUAAGUCCCCAAACUUACUCUGAGUAACUCAUUAACCUAUAAGGAACCCAUGACAUGAAUCUUUUAUGCACUCUUAACAUACCUAAGUCAUGUACAAUGCAAAUGAUGUAAGUUUGAAUGGUCUUAUAAGUAAUAAUGCAAUCAAGGAUAGAAAAUUAGAAAUUGAAAUCAUAAUAUAAAUAUAUUGAAGAAACCUCAUUUUGUUAGAUCAUAUCAUGCUUUUAAAGGCUCUAUCUUAACAGUUUUGACACGCUAGAUGAAGACAUUUUUAAGACACACUCUUCUUUCUCUAAGUAGCUAUGAAACUCGAAAAAGUUAUAGAUAAUCAAAGGAAGAUUGUUUUGUUUAAAAAUUCCUUCUAGAGUAAAAUUUGAGGAGAUAUUGUGUGGUGGAAUGAUCUCCUAACAAUAAAGUAAAAGAGGGUAGGUAAAUUGAAAGGAGAAAAAAAAAGAAGAAUCAAAGAAAGAAAGUAAUCAUGCAAUUUAGGCCUUAAAAGCCACAAGGGACUCGAAAAUGGAUAUCCUUGUGCUCUAAACCUUCCUAAUCACUAAAGACCAUUAGUAAACCCUUUUUUCCUAAGCCUUGUUGGAGUCAAGGAGUUUCAACACUAAAUCUCUAUCAUUAAAGUUUGGCAUAAAAUCAUCAUUUUUACCCUUGUGCAACUUUAUUGAACAAGGAAAGAGUACCUUUCCUAAAUUGACAUAUUGUCCCUCUAACAUGUUGAGGAUAAUAGUACAAACCAAGAAUGUGACGAUGGUAAGGUUAACUCUAAUGAGAAAAACCCUAGAAAAAUCAUAAAGCUAACAAAUAGUGGAAGAAAAGAGAAAUGAAUGUUAGCCUGGAUGUGGGCAAUCAAGACAUCAUCUCCUUUUGAGAACUCAUAAAGUUAGUCUAAGAAAAACAACCCACUCAACAUAAGAAUAGGCCCCUUAGCAUAACUCUAUCAGGUCUAAAAAUCCUUGGAGCACUUGACUAAGAAGUCCUUGUUCUUUGCCAUAAAAAUUGAAACCCAUACUUGCUCAAAAAACCCAAGAAGAGGAAAAUAGGUGUAAGAAUAAGCCUCAAAGUACUAUUUAGUGAAGAACCACAAAGAGGCAUGAAGAGGGCGAGACUUAACUACCCAUUAAUGCGUAACACUCUAAGAAUCUCAAAAUGCUCCUUGCAUAACAAAUUAUCAUAAUGAUGUAUGGCAUUUUUAAAUCUUCCUCAUCCCUUACGAACUGUUGUCAAAGAAAAAUGAGGGAAAAAUAUAGGGGUGCUUGGUAGAAGAAGGCCACGUGUUAGCAAGAGAAUAGGUAACCAAAACCCUAGGUAUGAUUAUGCUUAUAUCUGAACCCCUUGCACAAGUGCUAAAUGAUUGAUCACUCGCCAACAAGCAUGAAUGAACAAUAAAUGCUAACUUAGACCAUACUCAUGUGACCUUAACAAAGUCUAUGCCUUGAUAUACGGAAACUCCAACUACUCCCUCAAAGGCCUUGUAUAAAAGUGACCACAACCUCUAUGCCAAGUAAGUAUUCUAAAAUCCAAGAAAUUAGCCUUUUGGAUUGACACUCAUUCAUCUAUUAGUUCCCUCAUUCUUUCUACGAACGACAAAAAAAUCAUGAUAAAUCGACAAUAUGUUAACAAAAUAUCGAAUUUUGAUUGGCACUAAAGCAACACAUAGUGGAGAAAUUUCAAUCAACCAAUUUUUUUUUAAUCAUUUUUCGGGGUAUUUAUGGGUUUUUUUACCAAUUUUUUUAGUCUAGUCAACAUGUGGCUGGCUCGGUCAAACUGCCUACUCAGUCAAAAUCAAUCAAACUUCAAAAGUGAACAUGGUUUGAUGUAGGGGGGGUUUCGAACCUAGACAAAAGGUUCUACACCUACACCACAUGACCAUUGGGCAUUACCCUUUAAUCAAUAUCAUUCACUAAUAUAUAUAUAUAUAUAUAUGUAUGUACGUAUGUAUGUAUGUAUGCAUGUAUGCAUAUAUGUAUGCUGAGAAAUAAAACUGUCAUUGCAGGUAGAUGGUGGAAAUCCUUGUUAAUAUUUUCAAUCUCAUCUUCAUCCCAACUAAAGACCAAUCUUGAAAAUUGAUGUCCAUCUGCCUUUCUUAUUUCUCAUGUGCCAAACUUAUUCUUAAUUAUGCUCUUAUUCCAUGGGCUUUGUGGUGUAUCAGAGUCUUACUAUCCAUUUAUAACACAAAAUGACCUAUUAUAUAACAUAAAAUCAAAUAAAUAAUAACAUGCAAUUGUGUGCCUUAUAUUUAAUUUUUAUUCAACAAAAUUAGGGAUAUUCAUAUAUUUUGGUAGAAUUCAUUAAGCUUAUAUUUGGUUGGGAUGAAUUUUGAUAGAAAUUAAGAAAUAGAAAUAAAAUAUAUAUAUAUAUAUAUAUAUAUAUAUAUGCAAAAAUAUAAUUUUUUUCCCUACUGUUUAUUUUACUAUGAAAAAAUUAAAUGAUAUAAAAUUAAAUAUACCUAAGAAAUGCAUUUUUAUUCCCAAAUUGUUUCCAACUUUUCUGAGGAAAGUGGAGAAAAAAUUUUAGAAUUCCUCCUGCCUUUUUCUGUAAUAUUUUUCUUACAUUUUCAUGUCAUCCAAAGCCAUGAAAAUUAAUUAUUCUUUUCUCUAUAAACAAAAGCAAGGGAGAUGCAGCGAAAAACACAAAGAAAAUUAAAAGAGUCAAGCGAGUAAAGAAACUAACAGUGAUAUAUUAUGAGUUCCCAUAACUCGAAGCGAUUUCCACUUCGGAAAGCCCAAGGCCUUUUAGCCAAUACCGUCAAAGGGGUUUUAACAUCAUCAGAAUCUUUAUCAUCAUAAGAAUCUUUAGCAUCACCGAAAUUGCAUGUGGCAAGGUCAGGAAAACGUUUAACCAGAUACAGUGCUACAUCUGCAUAUUACAAAAUUGUACAUGGGAACCCGACGGUAAUUCAUAUCAAGAAAAUAGAUAGGGGAUGGUAAAUAUAGCUCACCAUGAAACCCCACCAUUAGUGCUCUGUGCAGAAGUAUGACUCCAGGCUUGUCUGCGAAAGGACUUGGAUCUACAUCAUCUCUGGUGACGCUUAAUAAAUAUAAAGUCAGCUCUUUAUGACCAUACCUAAGAGCGCUGUGAAGAGGCACUAAAUUGCCUUGGUUGCAGGUAUUGAGCAAGCUUGGGCUUUUGUUCACUAACAACUUGACUGCUUUUAUAUUGUCAGCCCUUACAGCGUUGAAAAGGGCAGUGGCGCCAUCAGAAUCCUUCAGAGCCAGUUUAUCUAUUGGCAUAAAGUCAACCAACUGCUCCACGAAACCCAUUCUGGCCUCUCCUAACUCAACUGCUAUGUGAAGCAUUGUUGAAUUAUCUAUUCCGAUCGGGGCGUCCAAUAAUUGUGGCUCACGCCCCAAUAAUUCUGAAGCACUUUCCCAGUCACCAUUGACCACAGCUUUGUACAGUUCCGAGUAAUAGAUUAUAUCUGCAUCAUAGAAUUCUGCAGUCACAAAACCAAAAGAUGUAUAGGUCAGCCUAGAUUUCCCUGAUAUGUAUAUUUCUUCAACGUUCACAACAUCCUAAUACUAAAAUUACUUUUUUAAAAAUAAAUCAUUUAAGUUAUGUUUGGUUCUUAGAAAAUUUGACAAAAAUUACAAGGAAAAGAAAGUAAAUUGAAAAAAAUAGCUAGAAGGUGAGAAAAAGUGAAAUAAAAUAUAUCUAAAAUCAAUAAAUUAAUUAUUUUUAUAUGUUACUCAUUUCACUUAUUUUAACUAUUCAAUAUAAAAAUUAAAUAAUUUAAAAUUUCAUAAAUUUAUAACUAAUUUUAAUUAUAUUUGAUUUUCUUAAAUAUUUUUUUCGAUAUAACCAAAUAUGGGAAAAUCAUUUUGCUUGAUAUAUUGCCUUUGCUAAUUAUUUUCUUGGACUUCUUUGUUUACCUCUAAUCAACAUCUUUAUAUCUUUCAAUAAUAGUUUGAACCUCCAAUAAACUACACGAAUUAAAAUUUAAUUUAGUUUCAUUUGUUUUUUUAACAGCAGGUUGUAAAACAGUUCUACUUGUAAACUAAUUAUGCCCAAAAGUUGCAUAAGGACUUGGGCAUGAACAUGGUUUUUAGAAUCUUACCGGAGCUGCUAGUUCUUUGCAAAGAUGAAGGGGAAGAGACUGAAGCAUUGUUUGGGCUGUCAUCAUUACCGAGAUGGUAAUGAAGAGGAAGCCAUUGCAGUACACUCCUCAUCAUCCUCAGCAAUGUCGAUGUUACUGUUUUUAGGACGUAGUGAAGAAGAAGAAGUCAUCACAACAAAUUCCGAACAUGAAACUUUGGUUUAUUCGACUCUUUCAUUAUAGACGGAUAAAUUUCCAAAUUUAAGACAUAGACAAAAUUAAAAAAAAAAAAAAACUUUACUUGAUAUAUGAAUACCAAAAUAAUAAUAUUGUGUGUAACAAAAAGGAGAAUGAAUCCUGGUUGAAUGAAUAGUGCAUGCAGAAUCUUCAACUGCAUUGACCCAAAAGAUCAAACCGAUAGAAAAAAAAAAUGAAUAUAUUAGAAUUCAACUAGGUCAACCACAUUCCAUCCAAGUCAAAUACCAGCCCACAAUCGCAGCAAACAAAGACUAGCUAGCCAGUGCGUUUAAUUUCAUCCAAUAAGAAUUCCCUCAAGCAAAAAGCCAGGAAACAGAAGUAGUAGGAAAGCCCUAGCCUUGCACCAAAAAAGUCUCGUCUCAUUGCUGGGAGUGCAUGCAUCCAUGCAGGAUCUGUUGGAUCAGAAAUUGGAAGAGCUAAAGUCCAGGACAUACAGAAGCGGUCGCCGGAGCCAAACCUAGUGAGCUUCCAUUUAAAGAUUAAAGCUAUGUUUGGUUCCCGAAAAUAUUAAUUUUCUACCAUGUAUCCAAGGGAAUCAAGGGCCUCAUAUGAUUCGAUGUUAUAAAGUCGGCCUCUACAAUUUAGAUUAAAAAAAUAGUUUGUUUCAAAGGAUAAUCCAUCAAAGAAGAAUGAAACAACAUUCUCAUCCUAAUCUUCUAACCUAACAUUGGUGAAACUUUUUAAACUCGUUUUCUUUGAAAUUGAUCAACUGAUCCAUGAUGGAAAACGACCUACAUGCAUGAAAGCAACCUAGGUAGUCUUCAAAGUCCAUUUUAGCCAUAAAAAUUCAAACACCCAACUUCUAAAACUAGAAGAGGUUGAACUAAAAACGAAAGAGAUCGAAACUAAUGAUUCUAUUCUUAACAAAAAUUCAUAGCCUACCCAACCUCACACGAAAACACUUCUUGAAUUGGUUGGCAUCACUUCCACAUGGAAAUGGCAUCAAAAAAUGCAUGCGUCUCAUAGUUGUAUUCUUAUUGUUGACUAGUGUCCCAUGUCACGCCCCAAGACCCACUCCAAGGGCGUGACGGUCAUUUCACACCUCAAACCCGAAGGCUUAAAGUAUAAUCUGACCCAAACAAUCAUAUUGUAAUUGGAUGUUACCAAUUACCAAAUACCUGUUCAGAGUAGCGGAACAAAAUCUAAAAUCCUAAAAAUUUAAUUUCCAAAUAACUUCCAAAUAUCAAAUGAUCCAAAUAAAAGUUGCAGAAGGACCUCAAGCGGAAAUGGACAUGAACAUGGUUUUUAGCAUCUUACCGGAGCUGCUAAUCCUUUGCAAAGAUGAAGGGGAAGAGACUGGAGCAUAUUCAUCAGCAUUCUGCGCCAUAUUGAUGCUACUACGGUUAGGAUUGUUUGGGCUGUCAUCAAUUACCGAGAUGGUAAUGAAGAGGAAGCCACUGCAGUAAACUCCUCAUCAUGCUCAGCAAUGUCGAUGUUACUGUUUUUAGGACUGUUUGCGCUGUUGUCAUUUCUAGGACGUAGUGAAGAAGAAGAAGCCAUUACAACAAAUUCCUUAUCGUUCUAUAGUAUUGCCAUGUUUAGCGAAGUUAUUCUAAUGUGUAACAGAAAACCUAAACAAAAUCUGCAGUUGACAAAGGUCAAAAUUAACUUACCUCGCAGAUGGAAGAUUAUAUUUAACUAUAUCAAGGCAGAGAAGAUACUCUCAUCCAAAGAGAAACAACAGCAGCCCUUUUUCCCACUGUCUUCAAAAGAUACAGGAACCAUUGAAGCAUAAGAGGUGCAAUGAUAUAGUCUUCCAAGUCAACUUUAUUUAGUUGAGUAUUGGGUAAGGAGUAGACAUGAUAAACAAUAGUAAACAUGUAUCAAAUAUAAAAAAUUUCUCACAAGUGAUGCAAUUAACAUUUUUUUUCUUCAAUAAUAUGUAUAAUAUAUACCAUGUGAUGUAUUAUUUAUACUUUAAGCUUUGUUUGGAUAUAUUUUUUAUUUUUUAUAUAUAAAAAAUAAAUUAUAUUUUAAAAUUUGUGUAAUAUAAAAAAGUUAUUAUUUUUUAGUAUUUGAUAUAAUACAUUUAUAUAUUUAUUAAAUUAUGACAAUAAAUGAAAAUAAAGUGGAGAGGACGAUGUAGGUUGGCAAACCUUUCUGGAGUGAAUGCAGCGCAGCAAAAGAGAAGGUACCAUUAACUUGAAUGCGAGAAGGGUGAUUGAUCUAUCAAUCUGUACGUGUCCUUCUUGAAAGGGACCAGAUUUUAUGGGGUUGCUUAAGGAUUAAUGUGGGUGCCUGUAGCAUGAAAGUGAAAAGAAUUUUGGGUCACCAAGGCGCCUCCCAUAAAAAUAUAUCUUUUAGGUCCUUUUUCCCCAGAGUGUCCUAUCAUCCUCUGAUAAAAAUAAAAUUUUAAUUAAUAAUUAAUAAUUAAAUUUUUAAUUCAAAAAUAAAAUUAUAAUUAUUAAUUAAGAUUUUGAUUAAAAAAUAAAGCUUCAAUGGAUAAUUAAAACUUUAUUUUUAUCUCAAAUUUUAAUUGAUAAAUAAAAUUUUGGGCUAAUAGUUUUUAGUAAAAAAGAUUUAUAUUCUUUCUUUGGGCAAAUUGAACAUAGACUUAGAUUUCACUUAGAAUGAUAAACAUUCAUGGAGCCAAAUGUAAAUCCGCACUCUUGGGCAUAAUAUUAUUGAGCCAUUGGUUACCAAAAAUUACUCUAAGGUAUCAUACCCACCUUUUAGGCCAAUAAAAUUAAGAAACAUGACAAGGAAAUUAAAAAAACCAAUUCUCCAGGUUUAGCAUGGUUGCCGAGGGAAUUAAUCAUGUGCACCACACAUUGCUAUGAUCGUUUGCAAUAACCAAUUAUAUAAAAUCUGUUGAAAUAUUUUUGUAAAAUGAUAAAAUUUUACAAAAAUGAUAAUUUUUUUUGUAAAAUAUAGAAAAGGAUACAAGGCUAUUAGUUCAUAAUUGCAUGAUAACCUUUUAGUAUUUCAAUCUUUGAUUUUUUUUGGAGAUUAUUUCCAUAAAUUCCACAUUCCAAAAACAAUGAUAAUCUUUACACAAUAUUAUUGUUAUUUAAAAUGGGAAAAAAAAUAUAAAAAAUAAAAAUUUCAAAAAAAAAUUAGAGAUCACAAAGAAUACAAGGAUACGAAGAAGGUGAGGAUUGUCAUAUUUUUUGUACUCUCCUCACAUUCUUCAUGCCCCAAACCAUUUGAAUAUUUUAAUCUUUUAAUUGUUCCAAACAUUAUUUACUUCAAUUGCAAGUGUAAUUAGCGUUUUUACACAAUAUUAUUUUCAAAUGAAGUAAAAAAGAAAUUCAAAAUUAAAAAUUUCAAAAAAUUUAGAGGGUACGAAGAAUGUGAAGAGCCUCACAUUUCUUGUACCCUCCUCAAAUUCUUCGUACCUAUUGUAAUUUUUAAAUUUUUUAAUCUUUCAAUUUUUUCGAACAUUAUUUGCUUCAAUUUCAAGUGUAAUAAAGAUUUUUACCCAAUAUUAUCAUCAAGUGAUGUGAAGAAAAACUUAAAAUUAAAAAAAUUUAGAGGGUACAAAAAAUAUGAGAGAGGAGGGUGUGAGGAAUGUAAAAAAGGGUAUGAGAAAUGUGAGGGUACAAGAAAUGAAAAAAAGAAAAAAAAAAAAUCUCAUACCCUCCUCACUUUCUUCGUACCCCUACAAAUUUUUUAAUAUUUUAAUCUUUCAAAAUUUUUGAACAUUAUUUGCUUCAAUUUCAAGUGUAAUUAGUCUUUUUACAAUAUAUUAUUAUCAAGUCAAUUUAAAAAAAUUAAAACAAUUUAGAGGGUACAACAAAUGUGAGGAGGGUGUGAGAAAUGUGAAGAGGGUAUGAGAAAUAUAAGGGUACAAGAAAUGAAAAAAAAAAAAAAAAAUUCAUACCCUCUUCACAUUUCUUGUACUCUCCUCACAUUCUUUGUAUUUUCACCAAUUUUUGAAUAUUUAAAUUUUUUUUCAAAUAUUAUUUGCUUCAAUUUCAACAAAAUUCUCAUACCCUCACAUUUUUCAUACCCCACCAAUUUUGUACUAUUUUAAUAUAUAAUUUUUUUUAAACAUUAUUUGUUUCAAUUUCAAGUGUAUUUAGUCUUUUUACACAAUAUUAUUGUCAAGUGAAGUGAAAAAAAAAAAACAUAAAAUUAAAAUUUUCAAAAAAAUUAAAGGGUACAAAAAAUGUGAGAAGGGUAUAAAGAAUGUGAAGAGGGUGCAUAAAAUGUGAGGGUAUAAGAAAUGAAAAAACAAAAUUUUCAUCCCAUUCUCACAUUCUUUGUACCUUCACCAACUUUUAAAUAUUUUAAUCUUUUAAUUUUAACCCAUCUAACCCUUAUAAAUCGUGUCAUUAAGGAAUAUGAGCUCAAAGUAAGGACCAUUGGGAUCCAUAGGAGUAUUGGCUCCCUUAGAAUCAAAUUCUGAAAUUGAUUCAACAUCCCACUAUAGAGAGUCAACUACACUUUAAUAUCCUAUGUAUAUUACAACAAGACACCAAGUACUUGGGUUUAUGAUCUACUAUCUAUUGCAUGCAAACUCCCUAUGAACCGGUGUCCGUAAUCUAAUAAGGUAGUGUUGUCACCUAUCAAGAUUACCCCUCAAAUCCUUUAGUUAAAAAUCACACUUAUUAUGUGAUCAAAUGACAUACUCUACCUUUAAGGGGCAUAUGUCAAAUUCCACUGAAGGAAUUACUAUGACCACUGAUUUCAUGAUCACAUGCCCUCUGGAUCACCCAAUGGGACAUAUUGUCUCAAUCUAAUGAGAUAUCAUGGUGCCUCUAUUGAGAAUACCUAUUGUCAUCAACCUCCAUCAACAGUGACCCAAUUCAUAGGGAUAUAUGACCGCUUUAGGGUUUCACUCAUAGGUUAAAGUCUUCUAUUAAUUUUGGCACAAAUUCAAUAUCCUCUAAAGUUGAGAGUCUAUGCAGUAGAGUAGCUUAGUGAAUCAUGAUAAUUUAUAGUCUUGCGUCAUGAUUCACAUAGGUCCUAUCUAGUGUGUAUCACAUACAUUAGUAUAUUCAUCAUAGGAAACUCAUCCCAACGACCAAGACCAGUCAUCCCUCCAAUUAGGAGGUAGUGCACUAUAGUCUCUACUGAAUUGCCCAAAUCCAUGAUCCAACUAUGGACAACUUAUCUACUUAGAAGGAAUCCAUGACUUAUACAUCUGUGCAACUCCUAAUGCACCCAAAUCAUGUACAAUGUAAGAAACAUGGGUUGAAUGUUCAAAUCAGUGUCAAUACACUAGAGGGAUAACAAGGGGAUAGUUAAAUCUAACUUUGUUACAUCAUGUCUUACUUAGUUAAGUUUAAUUUUAUUACAUCGUAUCUUGCUUUUAGGGGUUCAAUUCCAACAAACUCCUACUAGCCCCAAAAGUAUACUAUGUAUUGUAGAAAAAAUCUACUCUACAGUCACGUCACCUUUCUAUACUAUCCCACAGCAAGGUAUCACUUGCUUUUUAUAUGUUCCCUCUUAUAGUGGUACUUUAGUUCUUUGGACUAUGCCACCAUCCUAGAUAAUAGUAUCUUAAACAAUACAACCAAUGGAAAUACCCAUAAGCCAAAGGCUUCCUUUGUUGCCAUAGAAGUAACAAAAACCACUUAGAGUGUACACAAUCCAAGAGGUAGACAUGCAAGAGUCCUCAUCAGAAUGAAAGUCCAAUUUCUCGAUACAAGGACUCACAAACAUAUAAUCCUUCAUUCUCUAUGGAUACUAGAGUAUAUGUUUGACAUUCGCCUAAUGAAGAAAUGAACUAAUAUCUACUCAUUAUUCCUAUAACAAAGCAAAUAUCUGGUCUAGCACAUAUCAUUGUAUGCUUAAGGCUAUCCAUUGCAAAGGCAUUAGAUACCAUCUUAAUGCGAUCUCUCUCCACAUAUGUCCAAGGACAUUGAUCUUAAGAAAGAUAACUCCAAAUCCAAAGAGUAACAAACCUUUCUUAGAGUUUUACAUCAUAUACUUGACCAAAUGCUCAUUAAUGUAGAUGACAUGGCACAAUUUUUCAUAUUCCUACAAUGCUAAAGGACCUUAACCCUAUGAAUAUAUUAUGCCUUCAUCUAGAUUUUUAUCUAGAACUGAGUAAACAACUAGAUCUUGACAGAUGAAAAUAUCCUUACAUCAUAUCCAAUGAGUAGAUUAUCAUCUACCUACAAGAUCUUAGAGCAUUACCAUGCUCCCCUAUGCUUUCAUGUACACACAAGGCCCAUUGCUAUGAAAAUGUUUGGUUGCUAUAUCUCAUAAAUGAGACACAAUGCAAUAGAUAAGAGUAAUCUGAUAGAUUUGAGUAUGAUCACUAUUGAAAAGGUUUUCCACAGUUGAAACAAAGUUUCAAACUAUAACCUUUAGCUAUAGUCUUAGCCACAUAAAACUCAAGCUUUCCAUCUACUCUUGUAGACCAUCUUACACCUAUGAGUUUUAUCCCUUUAAGUGCUUCUAUAGGAACUCAAACUAUGUUAAAAUGCAAAGAUUCUAACUACCUCUUCAUAGCUCAUUACCUUAAGUGAGCAUAAACACUACUCAAUGCUUCAUCAUAAUCUAUGACAUAUAAACUUCCCAUUAUGAUAAGGCACUGUUGUACUCAAAAUCAUAGGAAUGGUAUGCCUUAAACCCUCUAGAUCCAUAGUAUCAUAUGCAAUGUGGGACUAUCUUCUAAUAUAUCUUCCAAUCAUUAUCAUUUUUUGCCUUAUUCCUUAUAAUAUAGUUUUCAUAAAACAAAAUUGACAUUUGUGUUAACAAAUAUCUUCUGAUGAUCCUAACUAUAAAGGUAAUAACCUAAAAAUCCUCUUAUACAUCCUAUAAAUUGAUAUACCUCUUAAGAAAAAGGGUAAUCACCUUUUUAAAAAAUAGUAGGUAAAAUAUACUUGAUACAUACCUUCAACCACUACAAGAAAAAAGGUCAUUGUUGACAUAUUAUUAUCUUGACUUAAGGUGAAAUGUGUCAAUGUUGCCUAUUUUAAUGAACAACUAUGACAUAUACAACUUGUUUAAACCAAUAAUGACAUAUAUAAAAUUUGUUGAAUUCUUUCAUGACUUAUAUAGUAGAAUCUUGACAAAUAAUUUAUGAGUCAAUGUAUUCAAGGUACUUAAAUAAAAGCAAUAAUGAUAAUAAUUUGUUUGAUAUGUGUAUAUCUAAUUUACUUACUAAGUAUUAUAAAUUGAAGUGACAACAAUCAAUUUUGAUUAAGGAAGUUAAUAUUUAAUAAAUUUUUUUAGUAAUGUUAAUAUCAAUUUUCAUUUUUUUUAUCAAAUUGAUUAAAUCAUUUUUUAGUCUAUAUCAAUAGCACUGAAAUAAAUUUGUGUACAUAAUUUUUUAUGCACUAAUUUUAGUGAAAUAAAAUUUGCUACAUUAUGGUUUUUUUAUAAUUGGAUAUAAAUAAAAUCAAUACUAAUAAAGUAUUUUUUUUAUUCAUUGAUGUUAAUGAUUUUUUUUUUUUUUUUUGAGUUUGUAUUAAUAUAAUAUUUUUUUCAUAAACUGUUUUUCAUUAUUUUUAAAUUAGUAAGUAACUUGUAUUUGAUUUAAAAAUAAUUAAUAAAUUUGUGUAAGCUUGAAAAUUAAGAUAUUUGGAAUUUUGAUUUAUCAAUUCUUCGGCAUAAUAUCAGGUUUCAAAAUUUUAUUUUUUAAGUUAACUCAUACAAAUUUAGACAUUAGGAAAGAAGAAAAUUAAUUAUGGAAAAUUGACAUUAUAAAAGUUAUAAAUAUAUUCCAUGAAUUGAUUUUCAUAAAGAUAUUAUUAUUAUUAGUAUUAUUAUUAUUAUUAUUAUUUGUUUAUUUACUUUAUGUUUUUAUUUUUUAUUUUAUUUUCAUUUCUUUUUUAAAAUGCUUAUUUUAUUUUAUUUUAUUUACCUAAAAAAAAGGGCUUUGAAAAAUGUAGAACAAUCCAGCUCCAUUCGGGAAAAAUCUCUCUCUAGAUUGAUGGUUCCUGUUGAGUGGUAGAAAGAGAAAUUAGGUUUUUGAUUUUGAGAAGCAAUCUUCUAGGUUUUGACCUUUAAGGCAAAAACUACUCAUCAAAACGCAUUUGUUUCCGAUUAUCUGGUCUUAGCCACAUCUUAAUUAUUCAUAAAUUUUUAGCCCCAAAAUUCAUUCUGUUCUUAUUCAAAUCAAUAUCUGAGUAAGAGUAUGUCUGUGUCAUUAACCCAUAUUUCUUGGUGGUUAUGGAGUGGAAAACACCAAGAGCCCAAAAGACUCUCCAAUGGAUCUUCUUUAAAUUCUUCUCAAGAUUCAGGUUUGUGGGAGUCGGAUGCUUUGAAAUUCCCUUUAGUUAAGGGGACUUCUUCAUUCACAUUUCAACUCUUUUUUUCUCCCAGAACCUCUUGAUUCUCUGAAUCUCAAAGUCUCCCAAUCUCCCGCACCUCGAUCCACGCAGAUCUCCGAUUUUUGCUAUUUUUUAUUUUUUUUUUCUUCGUGAGAAUUUUCAACCUAGGGUUUUGAUUUUGUAUGUUCUAGUUUUUGCUUCGAUCUCCUCGAUCUCGGUUCCGAAUUCACCCAAGGUUUGAUCGUUUGAUUGUUGGAUUGUUUGGUUCAUCUCAUGGAGGCGAUCGAUGAGCUCAUGCAGCUGUUAGGGUCUAUGUGCUAGGCCGCGGCACUGCUGGCGGAUGAAGAUGUGGAUGAGAAUUCGAGUUCCAGUUCUUCUCAUAGGGGUUCAACUUUUCUUAACGUUGUUGCUCUUGGAAAUGUCGGUGCUGGUAAAUCUGCAAUUUUGAACAAUUUGAUUGGACAUCUUGUUUUGCCUAUUGGAGAAAAUGGUGCUACUCGGGCUCUAAUAUGUAUUGAUUUACAAAAGGAUUGUUUCCUAAGCAGCAAGUCGAUCAUCUUACAAAUUGCCAACAAAUCUCAACAAGUUUCUACAAGUGCUCUUCGACAUUCUCUCCAGGACAAGCUGAGUAAGGGUGCUUCAGGCAAGAACCGAGAUGAAAUAUAUUUGAAGCUACGAACUAGUACAACACCUCCUCUGAAACUGGUUGAUUUGCCUGGAUUGGAUCAACGGAUUAUGGAUGAGACAUUGGUGAGUGACUAUGCUCAGCACAAUGAUGCCAUUUUGCUGGUUAUUGUACCUACUGCCCAGGCACCUGAAAUGGCUUCAUCUCGAGCUCUCAAAAUUGCUAAGGAAUAUGAUGGAGAUGGUACAAGAAAAAUCGAUGUAAUUAGUAAAAUAGAUCAAGCUGCAUCAUACCAGAAAAUCCUUGCUGCUGUUCAGGCUCUCUUGUUAAAUCAGGGUCCUCGAAGUACAUCUGAAAUGCCAUGGGUUGCUUUAAUUGGGCAAUCUGUUUCAAUUGCCUCUGUCUGGAUCUAUUGGGUCUGCAUGAGUUUGAUAGCGUGCCUAAAAGAAUGUCUAUUGUCAUCAAAUUCCCCAACGAUACUGUGAAAGACUUGGUGAAAGGUGUUGAUUCUUAAAUGUUUAGCAUUUUAGCAAAAGACAGUGGGAGGAAUAGUCAUGUAAGGCCGGCAACUCAGAGCCAUUUCACUGAAUAUUCAUCACAAGGCUUACUCACACUUGUAGUUGCUGCUAGGGAUAUUAUUGAUGAGGAACUUUCAGAGUGGCAGUGUAAGUAUGAAAAUGCAAGCACUUCAUUGACUGAUAGAUCCGUAAAACUUCAUCAAACAACAACUUUCAUUGAAUGCAAAUUAAAUCUUCUUGGGUCUACUAGGAUGAGAAUAAGGCUUCCACUUUGAACCUCCACUACACAUCAGUUUAUUUUUUGUAAAAAAAAAAAAAAAAAGAAUGCUGCCACUUUAAGAAUAUGGCACCACCAGAUUUUGUGAAAGGCAUCCACACAUGAAUUUGGAGGGCAACCAUACCAUGCAAAGAAGAUGAUUGCCACUUUAAGAAUAUAGGUUUAGUUAUUUUUUAUUUAUUAGUCUUUAAUCUUAUCAUUAUUAUUGGUGAAUUAACCUCACUUUUGUAGAAUCAUUGACGCUUGCUAUAUAGGUACGCUCUCUCUCUUCCCAUUUUAAAGUUUCAUGAAUAUGUAUGUCAUUAAGAACUAUAUCCUCAUUUGAUAUUGACUUUGGGUGCCUUGAUAUUCAUUUGAUUUCCUUUGAUAAAAUGCAUGUUGAGUAAUAUAAUACUUGAAAAUUGCUAUUUUGAUACUUGUUGCUUACUUUGCUAUUAACAUGUGUCUAUCCUACUAGGUAUUCAAGAAAUAUAGCAAAAAAGAAGAAGAAGAUGAAGAAUUAAUGACCACCUCUUAUGAAGAUAGUAUUGUACUUUUUAAUUUAAGUUUAUAUAUUAUCUUAAUUGAAUAUUUGUAAUUAGUUUUUUUUUGUAUAUAGAAAAUAGAGAGUAAAUAGAAAAAGAUUUAUUCCAUUGUGUUUUUAAUAUUCAAAUGUAUCUAUAACAAUUUUUUUCCCUUGAGUAAUAGUUUAUUUACAUUGUUUUAGGACUUAGUUAUUAUUAUCAUAAUUAAAUAUGUAUCAAAAUUAAUUUGGAAACAAGUUUCAUAUGGUAACAAGUUUAUUUUCCAUUAAAACUAAAAAUUAUAGUAAAAUAAUAUUAAAUUUGUCAUAGGCAACCUUGACAGAUGGCCAAUGCCCAACAUUGACAUUGCAAUAGCUAGAAACCUUCACAUAUUAUACUUAUCCUUGACAUUUGUUGUAGCAACCUUAACAGAAUAUCAAAUUAACAUUGACAUAUGAUAAAAAAAUCUUGACAUAUGUUGAAUCCAACCUUGACAAAAGUGAAAGAAACAUUGACAUAUGUCAUAGUAACAAAGAUUCGAUCAUUGGUAGAAAUAGAAACAACCUUGACAUAUGUAAAUGUCAAGGUAGAUUUAAACUUUUCUUGACACUGGAAUAGAUGACAUAUAUAAAUAGUAACAUACCUUGACAGAUAUACCCUACCUUGAUGGUGAAAAACUGUCAACGAAAGGCUUUUUUCUUGUAGUGAACCUUUUUCUUGUCUUACAUUUUGGUCUCUUAUAUUUCAAAUCCAUCAUUUUACCCAUUCAAACUUAUUAGAAAGCAAUACUUCAAUAUCAUUUGCAAACCCUUUAUAAAUUAUAAAAAGGAAUUUUUUUUUCCACAUUCUUGUUUGAACAUUGGUUUGAAUUUAGGUAAAACCAAUUUUGAAUUGAUAGCCUUGGGUAGUAUUUGAUUACUACUCAAAAAGUGCUCUUUGGUAGCUUGUAUUUAACCCUUUUAAACACUUUUGAGUAGUAGUUUUGGCCUUUUAACUCAAUUGGCAUGUUAAGGACCCUUGAAAGCAAUUUUAAUCACUUUGUGUAAGUUUUGGUGUUUUUGUUAGUAAUUUGAUCACCAAAGCAAUCCAAGAUUGAGGAGAGUUAUGAGGAAUCUUGGGCAAAUCUUGGAAGUCAUUUGCCAAGAGUAAAUCCGGAGUGCAAGGAGAAGAAGUAAAGAGAAUCUGCCAUGAAGCAUAUUCUUGAUGACAGUCGUGGCAGCCACUUUUGGAGCACUUUAUGAAGUCUAAUUAAUGCAUGCUAUAUACCAUUUCAAAGCUCAGGAAGUCAAAAAUCCAAUGCUUUAAACGGUACGUAAUUCGGAGUUGAAACGAAGAAGUUACAGCCAUUGCAAGUCAAUCACUCCAAGCUGAAGGAAGCAUUUUGCAAAAGGUUGCGAAAUCACCCUUUUGUUGCGAAGUGAUUUCGCAGCCUUUUUGUAUAGUGUGGUGUAUUUCCUCCUGAAGUUGCCCGAUAUAUGCCACAAGCUGGAAGCUGAGAACCUCAAGAUGGAAGCCAACUUCGCAGCCCUGCGAGAAUAACCUUUUGCUGCGAAGUGAUUUCGCAACCCUUUUGUGUGUCUGCGAAAUCUCGCAGACAUCAUUUUCUCUUGCGAAAUGGUCCGUAGUGCUUCCCGAUAUUUGCUACCGACAUUGGGAGAUAUUUUCCAUCAGAUUUUUGUUGUCUAAAUCCCAAAAUACUCCUUGUAAGCCACCAAUUACAAGAUUCCUUAGCUUUUAAGUUAGUAAAAAGAGAAAAUAUCUAUAUAAUAAUUAGUUUUGUAUUAUGUUCAUAUAUAUACUCUUCGAGAGCCUGUUCGAACGAGAGGAGACCCUUUGUAAAGUUUUGAAAAGCAAGUAAAGUUCAGGCCCUUUGUUUUGCCUUACCUUCUCACUUUGUAUUAUUUAUUUCUUACUAAGUUAUGCACUCUCUAAGGAAUUUUCCCCAGAGAAUGAGUAACUAAACCUCUAGUUCCUUGGAGCUAAGGUUGCCGGGGAAGGUUCCAAGUGCAAGAAUGCAAAGCUUUGUGGUUUCAGCCAUCAAUGAAGAGGAAGUGAAAUCCUUUAGUGAUUUCUAUGUUUUUAGUUAACUUAAAACACCUUAGAGUCACCUGGGCCAACACUUGGUAUAGCAAGUGAUCUCCAACCAAGGAGAUGCAUUAGUUUACCCCUUGCGAGCCUCUGGGAGGCGACUUUAAGGUAGGAUUUUUUGGAAUUGCCAACACUUGGUAAGCUUUUAGACUCCAAGGAGACAUCCAUUAGUUAUCUCUUGCGAGCUUGAGAAGGGAAGUCUAAGGUUAAAGAUCACCUUGAAUGGUUAAGGCUUAGUUAGAGGCUUGAACCAUUGCAAGUUGCAUCAAUGAGAGAAUUAAAGUUGAAAUCUAAUUAAAGGAUGUAUCUGUACAACACCGGUUAGAGAAUUGACAAUAUGUUGAAUCUCUAACGCGAGGAAAUGAACCAUUUGACCGGAGCUAUGUCUUUUGCAUGAGGAACCACCCCAGUGAACUUGACUCUCCAAGGAAUGUUUUUCUUCCUAAGUUAUUCCCAUUACUUGUUUUGUUAGUUAGUUUGAAUCUAAAUCUUUACCAAUCAAGGUUUGAGUUUUAUUUCUUAAGCUAACCUUGAAAUGAAACACUACCAAUUCACUUUGAAUUGAUAUCAUUGAUAACUUGCUAAUCCUUCCCAGUGAACGAUCCUAGAGCCACUAUACUAUAGUAGAUUUUUCUUUGCUACCCUAGUAUAUGGUGUAAUAGGUUAUAAAUUUUGUUGAUUACUCCCUCAUCCAAGGAGCACCAGCUGGACAUGAAUCAGUUGAGACACCAAUUAGGCAUGAAUCAGUAUUUCCUAAACAUCUUUAUAUUAUUAUUUAUUAUCUAACCCUUCAUGUCUUGUGGAAGCACGUUACAUGUUAUCUAUGCUAUCUAGGUACGCCCCCUAUCACCUACCUUCUAAAUUUUGUGAAUAUGCUUGUCACUAUGAACCGUGCCUAUGUUUGAUAGUGCAUGGGUGUCUUGAUAUAUUGUUUCAUUGUUCAAUCAUUUCCAAUAAAGUGCAUGUUGGAUGAUAUGCUAUUUGAACUAACUUUAAUGUCUUGUGAUAGCACUUAAGAAGCAGUCCAGACACACACCCUAAAUUGUCUUUAUGAUUUAUGAUUGAUUAUUUUGUUUAGCAUGCCAUUUUUUUUUUUAAAUCACCUUAGUUUACCUAGGUACCCUCAAUCAACCAAUUAAUUGUCCCAAUUCCCUCAACUUAGCUAGUAGAGACCUCUUUAGGGCUUAGAGGGGUGCUACCUGUUAGAGGUACCUUCCCAAUAGGUAACUUGAUCCCUGAACCUAGACUUAGGUUUUUCAAAGACACGUUUUUCCAAAAACUAUGGAGUCACUUAUUUAGGGUUUUCUUUCUUGUUUUAUUUUCCAUUUUAAAAUAAAAUAAAAUAAGUGGUAACUCCAACUUUUCCAAAAUUAUUUUUUUUCACCAAUAAAAGCAAGUCUCAUCGAUUGAGUGGGAGCACAUAUGAAAAAUACGAGUCCACACUACGGCUUUUGUAGUACUCUAGGUAUCGUCCUCAUGGACUAGCUUAUGGAAAUUGUCAAUACUACAAUAAAUGAAUUGCUUUCGUUUGAAUCCUAAAGUGAAAAAUACUAUGAGAAUAAUGUGAAACUAAGUAAAAGAAAAUAAAUUAAUAACAAAAUGGAUAUUUAUUUUAAAUUCAAUUGAUUCAAGUUUGGGGCUUUCUACAAUCCAACAUAGGGUAUAUAAAUUAGAGAAAAUAAGGGUCUUUUAAGUAAUAUGAUCUUAGGGUUUUGGGAUCCUUGGCUGCUCGUGAUCAAGUUGAGUUCUAUAACACAAAAUUGCAUCUGAAACCUAAUUUUUCUUUUUUAAAUCAGAUUCCUAAAACCAUCAAAUGAAUUAGAUUGAUUACUAGUUUAAGAUUUGGCUUUUUAACCCUUCCUACUCUUUAUAGCUUUGUUUUGGGGCAAAUAACGAUAGAAAAAACGAGGAUAACUAAGGAUCAAGAAUUACCAAGAAUCACUAGUAUCGAGUAAUAACCUACCGUAUCAUUCCCUAAACUAACUCACAAGGAUAGGAUAAAAAAUGAUAAAUUGUCACCCAACCAAUAAUUAAUCUCAUUGUUAUAAUAAUUUACCCAUUGUCCCUAUAGGUUUCCUAACCCUUAGGUUUUCAUGCUUUAAGCCCCAAGUUGGCUCUUAACCUCUCAUGGGGGUGAUGUCACAUUCAAUCAAUAAUAGGGCAAAAAUCCAUAAUUUGAAUGAAAAGAACCUAAAACAAUAUAUUUAAUAAAGAAGAAAAAGAAAACAAACCAAAGUUCUCGUCUUCUUCCACCUUCAAUGUCAAACUCUCUAGGAAAAAAAAUCCAAGAUCCCUAAAACAUAGAACUAAGAGAGUUUAGAUAAUAUCAUCAAUUACCUAUCCUAUGGCACACUCUCAUUAGCCACUUAUUACAAAAAUAAUUACCUAAAAAUGAUUAAAAAAAUAAUAAAAUGGUGAUUUCUAGUUGUGUGGGGUCCAUUUAAGUUUGAUGGAGUGCCUUAGAUGCAAUUCCCAAGGUAGAGGAGGCGAAACAUCAAAGUGGUAGUGGGUGAAUUUGAAAUUGGUGUCAUUUCAAUGUGGAUUUCGAAUUCAUAAGUUGAAUUUUGAAAUCAUUUUGAAAUGACCCUUUAGCUUUGUGCAGUUGUUUUCAAAUGGCCAUAACUUCUUCAUUUCAGCUCCCAUUUGCACAUUGUUUGAAGUAUUAGACUCUUGACCUCCCAAGCUUCGAAACAAUAUACCAUAUGUAUAAAAUGGUCUCUAGGAAAUGCUCCAAUUUUGUCCUCAAAGUCAGGGUAUAUAUUACCAUUAGAUUUUUGAGUUCUAAAUUUCCAUGCAGUUGAAUCUUGCUUCAUGCCUCAUUUUCUAUGUUUUCUUAGCUUCUUUCUUACUCCAUUAUGGUCAUUUCUCAUCUUCCAAACUCAUGAUAUCCUCAUCUUGCCUUUUCUCAUGGUCCAUGAGUCUUGACUCACUUAUUUCUUCAUUUAACCCUUUCUUGAUCUUUCAAAAUCUAAAGUGAUUCAACUUGCACCCUUUUCUUCCCUCGAACCUGAGAUAAGUCUCCAAAGUACAAAUUAAACUCACGGCUAGGGCUUUAGCAUCAAUUUAGGUAAAGUUGGGUGAUUUGAAUGUCCUUUGGUGCACAAAUCAUAUCAAAUAUGUGCCAUUAGAGCACAUAUUUUGGCUCCAAUCAUCUCCCUUAACUAAACUUUGCUAGUCCAUAGCAAAUGAAAAGAGUAAAGAAAAAAGUGAAAAAUAUGUAAUGAGAUUCAUGAAACCAUAUUGACUCAACAUAACUGAUUACUACUCAAAAAGUGCAUUUUUAUAAGCUUAAACUUAAUUGUAUUAAGCACUUUUGAGUAGUAGUUAGACAUUUUAUCCCAAUUGGCAUGUGAAGGACCUAGCAAAUGUUACUAACCAAUUUUUGGUAAGUUUUAAUGUUUUUAGUAGCUUUUUGAUCACUGAAACAACCCAAUAUUGAGAGAGAGUUUUGUGCAAGCUAUGGCAAGGCAAGUUUAUGGUCAAUCACAUGAAGAAUCUGAGCCUUAGAGCACUUCAAAACCCCUUGCCAAACUUGGAAAGGGGUUGGCAAAGCUAUUAGUAGUAAGAUGGACGGAAACAGAGCAUUUUGCAAGGCAAAAUCAUCAAAUUCGCAAGGUGUGCCAAAAUUCGCAAUGUGUGCCAAAUUUUGGCAGGGUGUGCCAAACUUUCGCAAAGUAUGCCAAAAUUUCGCAAGGUGUGCGAAAAUCACUUUAUGCGCACCGACCUUCAGGAAAAAUCUCCAGAAUUGUAAUUUUUUCUUUUUUACUCCUUUUGUAAUAGAUAAAAGACAUUAGGGUUUGUUUAGGAACUAUAAAUAGGGGUUGGAAAACCUCUCAGAGAUGAUGUUGUGUUAGAUAUUAUGUUUUAGAUAUUUCGUAAAGUCUGAGUUUUUCUCUGCCUUUCCUUCUCAUUUUCUCUUCACUUUCUCUCUAGCCAAACACCCUCUGAGGAUGAUUUCUCAGAGGAUGAAUGGCUAAGUUUCACAUUUCUUGGAGUGAUGGAAGCUAGGUAAAGGACCCAGAUGCAAAGGUGGGAGUUUUCCUUGCUAAAAAUGAAGGUAGUUGUGUAUCGUUAAUGGUUUGUAUGUCAAGUUUUAGCUUUAAUCCCUUAGAAUCACCUUGAAUGGCCAAUACUUGGUAAGCUUUUAGGAUUCUAUGGAUGCUUAUUGCUAGAUCCAUGGAUGUCCAUUAGUUAUCAAGUACGAGCCAUUGGAAGGUGGUUCAAGGUGAGGGUCUUUAGUGUUUGAAGUCAUUAAUGGGAAGCAACUACUAUUUUUCAAGAACCCUUUGGAUCAAAACUUAUUUGCUAAAUACAAAUCCGGUUUGGGAGAUGACCAUCCUUUAUGUCAUUGUCCCCAAUGCGAGGGGAAGAUCCGGAAUUUCCCACUUUGCAAUAGGAACCUGAUCCUAGUAACCAUAGCUCCAAGAGACUUUCUCUUUAUAAUAAUUUCAAUUGUUUAUGUUUGCUUAACUUAAAAUCAACCCUUCCAAUCAAUCUUAUUUUCAUUUAAAAACUAACUUCCAAAAAGAAAAUCACCAUUUCUUCUUUCAUUAAUGUUAAGUGUACAAAGAAAACCCAUCCCUGUGGACGAUCCUAGAGCCACUAUACUAUAGUAGCUUUGUAUUUGCUACUCUAGUAUAAGGUGUUGUAGGUUUUAUAAAUGUUUUGAUAGACACCCGACUGGGCAUGAAUCAAAUGGCGCCGUUGCCGGGAAUGGUGCCUAAGUACAUAAAUGUUACCUUUUAUGAGUACUUGUGAUCUUCAUCACAAGUUGGUGAUUUUUUUUUCACUAACUCGUUUUCUUUGUUUUUAUUUUAUCUUAUCUUUCAUUUACUUUUUAGCUAACUUGUAAUCUUUUCCUAGAAUUGUAGUCCUUUUUGUUUUCUUUGUUUUUGUUUCAGUACUCUCGAGUUGUGUAUGCCCUAUUGGAUAAGAGAUAUUGAGGAAAGACUUGUGAAAAUUGAAACUCCUCAAGAAAUCAAGUUGGAAGUCUGCUUGAACAUCAUGGAUAUUCCACCUGAAGAUCAGCAUAGCCAACAUGGGCAAGAGGAGAAUCUCAAUGCAUAUCGAUCCAUAAGGGACCGCAUGCAUCCACCUCGAAUGAGUGCACCUUCAUGCAUAGUGCCUCCCACUGAGCAACUAGUGAUCCGACCUCAUAUAGUGCCCCUUCUACCUACUUUCCAUGGGAUGGAAAGUGAGAACCCCUAUUCUCACAUCAAGGAGUUUGAAGACGUGUGCAAUACAUUCCAAGAAAGAGGAGCUGCAAUUGACUUGAUGAGACUCAAGCUAUUCUCUUUCACCUUAAAGGAUAAGACCAAGGUUUGGCUUAAUUCUCUAAGGCCGAGGAGUAUCAGAAUGUGGACUAAUUUACAAGCUGAGUUUCUCAAGAAGUUCUUCCCUACUCAUAGGACCAAUGGCUUAAAAAGGAAAAUUUCGAACUUCUCAGCUAAGAAGAAUGAGAAAUUCUAUGAGUGUUGGGAGAGGUACAUGGAAGCUAUCAACGCUUGUCCUCACCAUGGCUUUAAUACAUGGCUCUUAGUGAGUUAUUUCUAUGAUGGUAUGUCUUCCUCUAUGAAGCAACUCCUAGAGACCAUGUGUGGAGGAGACUUCAUGAGUAAGAAUCCAGAGGAAGCUAUGGACUUCUUGAGUUAUGUUUCUGAAGUUUCAAGAGGAUGGGAUGAACCGAAUACUAGAGAUAUGGGGAUAAUGAAGUCUCAGCCCAAUGCUAAGGGUGGAAUGUAUGUGUUGAGUGAAGACAUGGACAUGAAAGCAAAAUUUGCAACUAUGGCAAGGAGAUUGGAAGAGCUAGAACUAAAGAAAGUAUAAGAAGUAUAAGCCAUUUCUGAGGCAUGAGUGCAAGCUACGCCUUGUUCCAUAUGUCAAUCUUAUGAGCAUUUGGUGGAGGAGUGUCCAACCAUUCCAGUAGUGCGAGAAAUGUUUGGUGAUCAAGCAAAUGUGGUUGACCAAUUCAAGCCCAACAACUAUGCUCCUUAUAGAAGCACCUACAAUUUUAAUUGGAUAAACCAUCCAAAUUUCUCAUGGAAGCUAAGGCCACCUCAGUACACACCACCAGCUCAAGCACCUCAACAAGCUUCAAACCUUGAACAAGCCAUUGUGAAUCUUAGCAAGGUUGUGGGAGACUUUGUGGGGGAGCAAAAUUCAAUCAACUCUCAAUUGAAUCAGAAAAUUGAUAGAGUGAAGAGUACAUUGAAUAAAAUGAUGGAUGAGAUGCAAAAUGAUCUAUCUCAGAAGAUAGAUAAUGUUCAAUACUCCAUCUCAAGGCUCACCAACCUCAAUACUGUGCAAGAGAAAGGAAAGUUUCCUUCUCAACCUCAUCAAAAUCCCAAGGUAAUUCAUGAAGUAGAAGCUCAAGAAGGAGAAUCUUCAAAGUUGAGGGAAGUCAAAGCAGUUAUCACUCUUAGGAGUGGUAAGGAGGUUGUUCAACCCCCACCCAAGCUGAAACAUGAUGAAGGAAGUGAAUCAAAUAAGGACAUGGGUGAGAAAAAGUCAAAGAAAGGUGACCAUGAUUCAAGUGUGGAUGAAGAACCAAGGAUAGUCAUCAAGGAAGAUAUGAUGAAGAAGCACAUGUCUCCACCUUUCCCUCUAGCUUUACAUGGUAAGAAGGGAACCAAGAAUACAUCAGAAAUUUUUGAAGUGUUGAGGCAAGUGAAGGUCAACAUUCCUUUACUUGACAUGAUCAAGCAAGUUCCAACUUAUGCCAAAUUCUUGAAGGACUUGUGCACUGUAAAGAGAGGGUUAAAUGUGACCAAGAAAGCCUUCUUGACUGAACAAGUGAGUGCUAUCAUCCAAUGCAAGUCUCCAGUGAAGUAUAAAGAUCCAGGAUGCCCCACCAUUUCAGUAAAUAUUGGAGGGACAUGUGUGGAGAAAGCUCUUCUAGACUUGAGAGCAAGUGUGAAUUUGCUACCCUAUUCGGUUUACAAGCAGUUGGGACUUGGGGGGUUGAAGCCCACAUCCAUUACUCUCUCCCUAGUUGAUAGAUCAGUGAAGAUCCCAAGGGGGGUAAUUGAGGAUGUCUUGGUAUAGGUUGACAAAUUCUACUAUCCAGUAGAUUUUGUUGUUCUUGAUACUAAUCUAGUUGUCAUAGGGACAAACUAUGUGUCAAUCAUACUUGGAAGACCAUUCCUCGCUACUUCUAAUGCAAUCAUCAAUUGUAGGAAUGAAGUUAUGCAACUCAUGUUUGGCAACAUGACCUUGGAGCUAAACAUCUUCCAUUUGUGCAAGAAGCAUCUCCAUCUAGAAUAAGAGAAAGGGCCAGAGAAAGUGUGCAUGAUUGACACUUUGGUGGAGGAGCACUGUGAACAGAGCAUGGAGGAAGAUUUGAUUGAGAGUCUUGGGGAUCCUGAUGAAGGGUUACCUGAACCCUCAGAUUUGCUAACUACCAUGUCUCAUUGGAGAAAGAUGGAAAAGAUUCUACCUUUGUUCAAUGAGGAGGAGUCGCACAGAGUUGGUAAGGAGGAGCCCCCAAAACUUACUCUUAAGCUUCUACCUACUGGGUUGAAAUACGCAUACUUGGAGGAAGACAAGCAGUGCCCUAUGGUGAUUUCUUCAGCUCUCACCAUUCAUCAAGAGGAUUGUCUAAUCGAACUCCUUAGAAGAUGUAAGAAGGCCAUUGGGUGGAAAAUUUUAGACUUGAAAUGAAUCAGCCCUUUGGUGUGCACCCAUCAUAUCUAUAUGGAGGAGGAAGCAAAGUCAGUUCGCCAACCGCAGAGAAGGUUGAACCCUCACAUGCAAGAGGUGGUACGAGCUAAAGUUUUGAAGCUACUUCAAGCCGGUAUUAUAUAUCCCAUAUCAGAUAGCCUAUGGGUGAGUCCAACCCAGGUUGUCCCAAAGAAGUCUGGGAUCACGGUGGUGCAGAAUGAUAAGGGAGAAGAUGUCUCCAAAUGCCUUACUACUGGUUGAAGGGUGUGUAUCGAUUACAGGAAGUUGAAUGCGGUGACAAGAAAUGACCAUUUCCCGUUGCCUUUUAUUGACCAAGUGCUUGAAAGGGUUUUUGGGCAUCCUUUCUAUUGUUUUUUGGAUGGCUACUCUGGCUACUUUCAAAUAGAGAUUGAUUUGGAAUAUCAAGAGAAGACCACUUUCACAUGCCCCUUCGGUACAUUUGCAUAUAGGAGAAUGCAUUUCGGUUUAUGCAAUGCACCUGCAACUUUCCAAAGAUGCAUGCUAAGCAUCUUUAGUGAUAUGGUGGAGCGAAUUUUGGAAGUCUUUAUGGACGAUAUCAUCGUUUAUGGAAGUGCAUUUGAGGAUUGCUUAGUAAACUUAGAAGUUGUUCUAAACCGGUGCAUUGAAAAAGACUUGGUGCUUAACUAGGAGAAGUGUCAUUUCAUGGUACAACAAGGGAUUGUUCUUGGGCAUAUCAUCUCUAAGGAGGGUAUUGAGGUUGAUAAAGAAAAAGUUGAACUCAUUGUGAAGUUGCCAUCCCCCACCAAUGUCAAGGGAGUAAGGCAAUUCCUUGGACAUAUCGGUUUCUAUAGGAGGUUUAUCAAGGACUUUUCAAAGCUUACAAGGCCUCUUUGUGAAUUGUUGGUCAAGGAUGCUAAAUUCAUAUGGGAUGAAAGAUGCCAAAGAAGUUUUGAGCAAUUAAAGUCAUUUUUGACAACAAUACCCAUUGUGCGAGCUCUUAACUGGCAGUUACCCUUUGAGGUAAUGUGCGAUGCUAGUGAUUUUUCUAUUGAAGUUAUGAUGGGCCAAAGAGAAGAUGGAAAACCCUAUGUGAUCUAUUAUGCCAGUAAGACACUCAAUGAGGCUCAAAGAAACUACACAACCACUGAGAAGGAAUUGUUAGCAGUAGUUUUUGCCUUGGACAAAUUUCGUGCUUACUUGGAGGGGUAUUUCAUAGUGGUAUUCACCGAUCACUCUGCUUUGAAGUAUUUGUUGACUAAGCAAGACUGAUUAGGUGGAUCCUCUUGCUUCAAGAGUUCAAUCUUCAAAUCAAAGACAAGAAGGGAGUAGAAAAUGUGGUAGCUGACCACCUUUCAAGGCUUGCAAUCGCACAUAAUUCCCAUGGUUUGCCCAUUAAUGAUGACUUCCCAGAGGAAUCUCUCAUGUUAGUGGUAGUAACUUUGUGGUAUGCUCACAUUGCGAACUACCUAGUUACAGGAGAAGUUCCAAGUGAGUGGAAAGCACAAGAUAGAAAACAUUUCUUUGUAAAGAUCAAUGCCUACUAUUGGGAAGAACCAUUUCUAUUCAAGUAUUGUGCGGAUCAAAUAAUAAGGAAGUGUGUUCCUGAACAAGAGCAACAUGGGAUUCUCUCUCAUUGCCAUGAGAAUGCUUGUGGAGGUCACUUUGCUUCUCAAAAGACAGCUAUGAGGGUCUUGCAAUCGGGUUUCUAUUGGCCCUCACUUUUCAAGGAUGCCCAUGCCAUGUGCAAGGUUUGUGAUCGAUGUUAGAGGCUUGGGAAGUUGACCUGAAGGUAUAUGAUGUCUUUGAACCCCAUUCUGAUAGUUGAUCUUUUUGAUGUUUGAGGCAUUGACUUCAUGGGACCUUUUCCUAUGUCAUUUGGCUACUCCUACAUCUUGGUGGGAGUCGAUUAUGUUUCUAAGUGGGUUGAAGCAAUUCCAUGCAAACACAAUGACCAUAGGGUGGUUAUCAAGUUCUUGAAGGAGAACAUUUUCUCAAGAUUUGGAAUGCCUAAAGCCAUAAUCAGUGAUGGGGGUACUCAUUUUUGUAACAAUCCUUUUGAAACUCUUCUAGCCAAGUACGGGGUGAAGCAUAAGGUAGCUACGCCUUACCACCCUUAAACUAGCGGGCAAGUUAAGUUGGCAAACCGGGAGAUCAAGAACAUAUUGAUGAAGGUGGUGAAUGUGAACAGAAAAGAUUGGUCUAUCAAACUCCUUGAUUCACUAUGGGCUUAUAGAACUGCUUACAAGACCAUUCUUGGAAUGUCCCCUUAUCGCUUAGUCUAUGGUAAAGCGUGCCAUCUCCCUGUGGAAUUGGAAUACAAGGCUUGGUGGGCAAUCAAGAAACUCAACAUGGAUUUGAGCAAAGUCGGGUUGAAGAGAUUCUUAGACCUCAAUGAGUUGGAGGAACUGCGAAAUGAUGCUUACCUUAAUUCGAAAAUUGCAAAAGAGAGGUUGAAGAGAUGGCAUGAUCAGUUGGUGACCCGAAAUGACUUUUCAAAGGGACAAAGAGUCUUGCUCUAUGACUCUAAGCUCCAUAUCUUUCCGGGCAAGUUGAAAUCAAGGUGGUUAGGUCAUUUCACAAUCCACCAAGUGUAUUCAAAUGGAGUAGUGGAGCUACUCAACGCCAAUAGUAAUCGAACUUUCAAAGUGAAUGGCCAUCGUCUCAAGCCUUUGUGGAGCCUUUUUCUCGAGACAAGGAGGAAUUCACCCUCCUUGAUCCCCCUCAGGCUUAAAAAAUAAUAAUAAUAAUCAGAUCCUGGAUGGACUUAGUCUUUCUGAAAACUAUUAAGUUCAUCCAUUUUUGCUUUUUGUUUUUAAUUUCAUGUUUUUCUUGCAUUUGUAUUUGUUUUGAUUUCGAUUUCUUACUUGAAUUCCAUUUUAGUUUGAUUUAAUUUAGGUUUUUGAUGAUCACUUGUAGAGGAAAAGCUGAGGAAAAAUUGAAGCAAAGCAUUUCGCAUACCUCUCUGCGAAUUUUUCGCAUGGUGUGUGAAAAGUGCUCUUUGCAUUAAGUGAGCUACUGCCAUUUAGCAGAGCAUGCAAAAAUUUCGCACCCUCUACGAAAUUCUUGUGACUCUCGGUCUUCAAAUGCGAAUUUCCACAUGGUUUGCUAACUCAAAGUUCACCCUACAAAUCAACUUUGCGAAAAUUCCAUUUUGCGAAAAUCCCACUUUGCGAAAACUCCACUUUGCGAAAAUUACACUUUGCGAAAAUUCCAUUUUGCGAAGACCCCACUUUGCGAAAAUUCCACUUUGCGAACAAUCUCCACCCCUCAUUUUUCUAAAAAAAAAAAAAAAAUAGUAAAAUUUUAUUUAUUUAUUUUUUUUGCAGCAUACAUCCCAACUUCAUUUCUCACUUCUCUAGUCAUUUUUGCGCCCUUUUGCGAAACUUUUGCAUGACUAUGAAAAAUUUGCCUCGAAAGGUAUCACUUCCUCCCUUUAUUUUCACUUGCAAUUGAAACAUUGAGGACAAUGUUCGUCUUGGUUAGGGGGAGAGUUGAGGAAGUAAGUAUUGUAAAUAUUGCUAGGAUAUUUUGUUAACUUAGUUACCUUUUGUUUAUUUUUUUUUUAAAAGUUUUUACUCUACUCUCCAUGGUUGUUAAGGAAAAAUUCUCAAAAUGAAAUGAGAGAAGUUGAGUUCUUGCCUUUUUGCUUAAGUCUUAGAGUUUGUAUUAUGUAUAUUGAGGUUGAUGAAUUAUUGAAGCUCCUAUUGAAUUCAACCUUGUUUCUUCCACUUUAAUCUUACCACACACUGUGCACAUUAGGUUCCAAUUAUAAGAUGAAAAACUAUCUCACCCCUUGAACUUAGGAAAAUUUUGACUUGGUACCUUUGACCUCAUUUUAAUAGUGUUGGGACACCUUAUAGAAGGCCAAUGAGCCUUCAGAAAAAAAAAAAAAAACAAGUGCUACACAUGCCUUGAAACCCAAGCAAGGUCAUAAGGAUAUAUGGCGAAAGUCUUUGAAGCCUGGUGCCCUAAACCUUAAUUGGUUGGGAGUCGCAAACCUUAAUGCUCGUUAUAGGGGUGAAUGGGUGAAGUUGAGCAAAUAAAAGAAUUGUGAAAUAAAAGAGGUGUGUUCUUAGCCUAUUGGGUGUUGGUCAGUUUGCUAGGUUUGAGAAAGAACUAGGUUGGGGGGAGAGCAUAGUUUAGCAUACUAUAAUUGGAAACUAAUCACCUUAACACUUAGAUUCUUGUCGAAGAUUAAGUGUUGGAUCUUUGAGAGUGGAAAUUCUUUUGAUGCUUAAAUUUGUAUAGUGCCUACUCUUUGUAUUUUGUGAUUAGGUAAGUGAUUUAAUGACUCUUGUUAAAGGUUGGGUUUUAUAUCUUUGAUUUUCCAUGAGAGAUUUUUGAUCCAUAUCAUGCUGCUUUAAAAUUUUAUUUUUGAAGUGGUGAGCAUGAUUUUGUAAAUUGUUGUAUAGUCUAUUUUUCUUUUUGUCUCCUUCAUUGCUAAGGGACUAGCAAUGUGUCGGUUGGGGGGAGUGAUUACUACUCAAAAAGUGCAUUUUUAUAAUCUUAAACUUAAUUGUAUUAAGCACUUUUGAGUAGUAGUUAGACAUUUUAUCCCAAUUGGCAUGUUAAGGACCUAGCAAAUGUUAUUAACUAAUUUUUGGUAAGUUUUAGUGUUUUUGGUAGCUUUUUGAUCACUGAAAUAGGCCAAGAUUGAGGGAGAGUUUUGUGCAAGCUAUGGCAAGGCAAGUUAAAGGUCAAUCACAUGAAGAAUUUGAGCCUUGGAGCACUUCAAAACCCCUUGCCAAACUUGGAAAGGGGUUGACAAAGCUAUCAGUAGUAAGAUGGAGGGAAACAAAGCAUUUCGCAAGGCAAAAUCAUCAAAUUCGCAAGGUGUGCCAAACUUUCGCAAGGUGUGCCAAAAUUUUGCAAGGCGUGCCAAAAUUUUGCAAGGCGUGCCAAAAUCACUUUGUGCACACCGACCUUCAGGAAAAAUCUCCAGAAUUGUAAUUUUUUCCUUUUUACUCAUUUUGUAAUAGAUAAAAGACAUUAGGGUUUGUUUAGGAACUAUAAAUAGGGGUUGGAAAACCUCUCAAAGAUGAUGUUAUGUUAGAUAUUAUGUUUUAGAUAUUUUGUAAAGUCUAAGUUUUUCUCUGUCUUUCCUUCUCAUUUUCUCUUCACUUUCUCUCUAGCCAAACAUCCUCUGAGGAUGAUUUCUCAGAGGAUGAGUGGCUAAGUUUCACGUUUCUUAGAGUGAUGGAAGCUAGGUAAAGGACCCAGAUGCAAAGGUGGGAGUUUUCCUUGCUAAAAAUGAAGGUAGUUGUGUAUCGUUAAUGGUUUGUAUGUCAAGUUUUAGCUUUAAUCCCUUAGAAUCACCUUGAAUGGCCAAUACUUGGUAAGCUUUUAGGAUUCUAUGGAUGCUUAUUGCUAGAUCCAUGGAUGUCCAUUAGUUAUCAAGUACGAGCCAUUGGAAGGUGGUUCAAGGUGAGGGUCUUUAGUGUUUGAAGCUAUUAAUGGGAAGCAACUAUGAUUUUUGAAGAACCCUUUGGAUCAAAACUUAUUUGCUAAAUACAAAUCCGGUUUGGGAGAUGACCAUCCUCUAUGUUAUUAUCCCCAAUGUGAGGAGAAGAUCCAGAAUUUCCCACUUUGCAACAGGAACCUGAUCCUAGUAACCAGAGCUCCAAGAGACUUUCUCUUUAUAAUAAUUUCAAUUGUUUAUGUUUCCUUAACUUAAAAUCAACCCUUCCAAUCAAUCUUAUUUUCAUUUAAAAACUAACUUCCAAAAAGGAAAUCACCAUUUCUCCUUUCAUUAAUGUUAAGUGUAUAAAGAAAACCCAUCCCUGUGGACGAUCCUAGAGCCACUAUACUAUAGUAGCUUUGUAUUUGCUACUCUAGUAUAAGGUGUUGUAGGUUUUAUAAAUGUUUUGAUAAACACCCGACUGAGCAUGAAUCAAUAACAUGUUACACACAAAAGAUACCCAAGUAGUCAAAUUUCCUAGAAUUGAGCAAAAUGAAACAAGAUAUGCAAUUUCUUAGUUUUUUCACCUUAUCUUCGUAUACAUAAAUGUGCAUCCAUGUUUAGCAUUCCCCUUAGUGUCUCUUGAUUUUUCCUUGUUUGGUUUUUUCCACCUAAACCUCAUGUGCUUAAUUUUGGUGUCCCCUCAGUAUUUUUCUUAAGACUUUUCUUAAACUCAAACUUCAUCAUUCUUUAAUUUAAAAAAUGAGGAAAAUUUAUUUUGAUUUUUCUUUCUUAGUUUAGGAAAUCUCCUUCUAUAUGGCUUAAUAGGGAUCCAUCGACAACUCCCAAGUUUUCACCCAAGGUACUAGGUAUUGAGAACCUUUGUAGGCCACUUACCUUUUAGGUGUCAUCCUAGCUCAAGGUAGAACAAGGUUGAAUUUCCCAAAUAUUUAUUUAUUUAUUUUAAUGUUUUUUUUCAAAAUUGAGUUUAGCUUAUGUUACAAGCAAGAUAUCGAUGACUUCUAACCAGUCGUUUUCGGGCACCGGGGCUUGAAAACACAGGGCCAUUACCCCCUCAAAUAAUUGCUCAAGCUUAAAUAAAUCAUUUUCAAAUUUUUUUUUCAUCAAUUUUUUUUUUCAUUUCCUCAUUUUAUUGCUUAAGAACAACUCCUUUUAAGCUAAAGAAAUUAUUUUAAUCAAGAUACCACAAGGGUAUAUGUGCUUUAUGUGUGCUUUGAGUCUUAAAUAGAAAAUAACCAUUAAAAAAAAUUUGAAGGCAUUCAAAGAAUUUAACCUAACUAUUUUUGCACUUCAAAGUAUAUAAAGAUAAGGUAAGUGAACUAAUACUCUUGCUCUAACUGUAUUUUUUCUCAAAUUCUAAAGAAAUAAUACUACUUAAAGCAUUCUCAUGCAAAAUAAACCAUGAGUUGCCAAGGCAAAUUAAGAAUGUCAUUAAUUAACCAAAUAUAACAGGCAAACUUUUGAAAAAAAUUAGGGCUAAUAGACCUUCCCCCCUCAACCUAAAUUACACAUUGUCCCCAAUGUGUAGGAUAUUGGGUCAAAUGAAAGGAAAAAUGGAGAUGUUACCUCAAUAUCAUCAAGUGAGAAGUUUGUCAUGAGGACUUCAUAUAAACUAGUCUUGCACAAAAAAAACAAGAUUAGUGGCAAAAGUAUGCAUAGAGAAAAAUAUAAAUGGUGAGAAUCUAAAAGAGAGUAUAAGAGUAUGAGUAUGUGAUUCGUCCCUAGCAGCGGCAGUGGCAACAGCACCAUUUGAUUCGGGGUUCGAUCCCCGGCAACGGCGCCAUUUGAUUCGUGCCCACUUGGUGUCUCAGCUGAUUCAUGUCCAGCUGGUGCUCCUUGAUUGAGAGAGUAAUCAACAAAAUUUAUAACCUAUUACACCAUAUACUAGGGUAGCAAAGACAAAGCUACUAUAACAUAGUGGCUCUAGGAUCGUUCACUGGGAUGGGUUUUCACUUUGCAAAUGAUAUUAAUUCAAAAUUGAAUUGGUGCCUUUUCAUUUCAAGGUUAGCUUUAAAAGAAAACAUAAAGAUGUUUGAAUGAAAAAGGUUUAGAUUUAAACUAACAAAAAAUAGUAACUGAUUUUACUUACAAAGAAAAGUGUUUCUUGGAGUUUCAAAUCACUAGGCUCAGAUUCCUCAUACAAAAAGGGAGUUCCGGUCACUUGUUUCUUUUCCUCGCAUUAGAGAAUUAACAUAUAGUUAAUUCUCUAACCGAUGUUGUACAGAUGCUUCCCAUUAAUGGGUUCAAACACUAAAUCCCUCUCACUGAUGCAUCUUGCAAUGGCUCGUGCCUCUCACCUAGCAUUUGCCAUUCAAGGUGAUCUUUAACCUUGGAUUACCCGUCAAAAGCUCGCAAGAGAUAACUAAUGGAUGUCUCCUUGGAGUCCAAAAGCUUACCAAGUGUUGGCUAUUCUAGAAAAUCCUACCUUCAAGUCACCUCCCAAAAGCUCGCAAGAGAUAAACUAGUGAAUCUCCAUGGACGGAGAUCACUUGCCUUACCAAGUGUUGGCUCAGGUGAAUUGAAGACGUUUUAAGUUAACUAAAAAGAUAAAAACCAUUAACGGGUCACACUUUCUCUUCAUUAAAAACUAAAACAACAAAACUUCCAAACUAUGCAUGUGGAAACUUACCCGGCUUUCCUCACUCCAAGAGACAAAAAGCCUAGCCUCUCAUCCUCUGAGGAAAAAUCCUCAGAGUUUGGUUGGCUAGAAAGAAAACUAACGAGAAAACAAGAAUAUAUAUGAAAAACAGAGCAAGUGCUCUGUUCGUUGAUCUAUAUAUGAUAUAUCUAUAUUACAGUGGAUUACAUGAUUACAUGAUUCUCUGAGAACAAGCUCCCGAGAGCUAUAUAUAAAGAAAAUUACAAAACAAAAUAUCUGAGGUUAUUCACCCCUGUGUUCUUACUUAACAACUAAGGAAUCCUAUAAUUGGUGGAUUACAAGGAGAGAAUUGGGAUUUAGACAUCAAAUAUCUGAAGCAAAAUAUCAAAAAAUGUCGGUCGCAAAUAUCUGGAAGCACUCGGGAGAAUUUCGCAGGCGCACAAAAUGGCUGGUUCGACUCAUGGUAGCUUAGCUUUAAAGGCGUAUCAACAAAAUUUAUACCUUGAAUACUAUUACUAAAGUAGCCAAGCUACUAUAGCAUAGUGGUUCUAGGAUCGUUCACUGGGAAGGGUUUUCGCAAACACAAGUGAUAUUCAAAUUAGGAAAAUAGGUGAUUUUCUUAUGGAUGUUAGCUUUAAAAGAAGAUGUAAAUGUUUUAGAAAGAUUGAAACUAAUCUAAGCUAACAUUAAAGACUAAAAUGAAAGGGUGUAAAAACAAGUUUCUCAAAUAUAGGAUAACUAUGCUCUGGCUCUUAUGCAAAUUGGAAAUCUCAGGAUAGGCUCCUCGCGUUGGGGUUGCAACUAUGGUGAUGCUUGCUUCCCGAACCGGUAUGGAUUUAGCAAAUCAAGUUUUAAUCCUUUAAAAUGACAAAACAGAUGGUAGUGAAUUUCAUCAAUGGUUAUUCACCUUAGACUUCCUUUGAAUGGCUCGUAAGAGAUAACUAGUGGUCUAAAGCCAAAAGCUUACCAAAUAUUGGCAACUCAAAGUCAUUCCAAGUGAUAAACUCACCUUUCAAUGGCCAUUGAAAUUGGUUCUAACGGAUUAAUGCAAAACUUGGAAUUGAAAACCUCACCUUCCAAUAGCUCGUAGGAGAUAACUAAUGGAUAGAAAUCCAAAAGCUUAUCAAGUAUUGGCCGUUGGAAGUUGUCAAAAGGAAAUAAAAACCAAACUUUGCAUUAAUGAACCAUUAAUGAAAAACGACUACCUUACCUUCCGGGUGCGAGAAAUUUCCAUGGGAUUGCAUCCAAGCCAUCACAUAACAUCCAUACUUUGAGAAACUAAAAGUUUUAGCCAAUCAUCCUAUGAGGAAAAGCCCUCAGAGGCUGUUUGGCUACUAAGAAAAUAGAAAUGGGGAAGAACAGGAGAAGAGAGAAAAACAGAGCAAGGCUCUGUAUAUUCUAUAUAUUGAUCGAUAUAUAAUUACAACGGAUGCAAGGGAAUAUAUAUAGAGAAGUUUUUCCAAUCCUUCCUAGCUAAGAAAUCUUAUGAUUCGUGGAUUACAAGGAGAAGAAUGGAAAUUUAUACAAAAAUAUCUAAAAGAAAAGAUCUCGUGUGGAGUCGGCAGAAACAGGGGAAAAUUCGCACGUUGGAGUUCCAAUUUCGCACGUUGAUUUGAGGUGUGCGAAAUUCUCGCACAGUGGACUGAGGAAUUCGCACCUUGAAUAGUGGUGUGCGAAAUUCCCGCUCAGCUCGGUCCAGUUUUCUUGCAAUGACCAUAACUUUUUCGUUUCAACUCCGAUUUGGACACCGUUUGAAGCGUUGGACUUCUGACUUCCCGAGCUUCGAAAUGGUAUAUAGUAUGUAUAAAAUGGACUCGAGAAAGUACUCCAAAAUAUGUCCCAAAGUGGAAAUAGAACCAAUGGCCAGAAUUCUCUCUUCUCUUCCUUUUCUUUCAUCAUUUUUGCAUCUCCUCCUACAAUGAUCAUCCAAAACUCAUCUUAAAAACAUAUUAAAACUAAAUUAAAGCUAAGAAUUCAAACUAAAACAUGCAUAAAUUUAAAGAAAGCAUAGAAUUUAAAUGAAGCUGAUAGCAUGUACCCCAAAAAGAAGAUGAACUAUUUAGCUCAUCCUGACUCACACACCCACUUCAUGCUGAAUUCCCCCUGGAUCCCAAACAAAAUUGGCAUCCUUCCCAUUUGGUCCAAGGGAAUUCGUUUCUCUUCUCUUCCCUAGAGAAGUGGAUGCUUUAAAGGGUUCAGGUAACCCCUUAUCAUCUUGAACCUUAUGAUUUUCAAUGGAAGGUUGGUCCAUAGAGUUGUCAUAGCAAUCCCCCACCAAAGUGUCAAUCUUCAACACUUUCCUUGAUCUUUUUGCAUUGGUUCCUUGAAGGUUAUGGUGGGGUUGAGGAGUAAGCUUCCUUUUCCCCCUUGCUAUGUCGAGAUUGGUGAGCUUCUCAAUGGAGUCUUGAACUUUUUCUAUCCUUAGUGAUAGAUCAUUAUAAACCCCCUCCAUUCUUACAUUUAUUGAACUCUCCAUAUUAUCAAUCUUUUCAUUAAGCUGAGAGUUGAUCUUUUGUUGCUCACCUACAAAGUCCUCCAUGACUUUGCUUAUCUUCAAAAUGGCUUGCUCCAAUGAAGAUGUACUCAUUGAUGGUUGAGGUUGAGGUUGGGUUGCAAGGUUGGGAUGGUUUAUAUACUCAAAUGAAGUUGGCAUGGCUUGUGGUUGUGCUUCAGUAUGCACAUUCCUCAAUUCAAACUCUUCUAUCCUUCUAGCCAUAGAUGCUAGCUUUGCCUUCAUGCUCAUGUCUUCAUUCAAAGCAUACUUACUAGCCCAUUGGCUUUGUUGAACUUGCCUUUUCCCUAAUUCAAUCCGAUCCCUCAUGGAUAAGUAUGCAAAUUUGUCCUUCUCAUGAUCAUAAUGAGAGCUUUGAUCUUCAUGUGGAAUUUCCAUUUAUAAAAAAAAUGAUAUUCAACUAAGGCUCUUUUCUUCAACUUGUACCAGGGUUCCCUCUUGGUCUCGAAUCCAACAAGGAAUGCACAAAUUGAAAUUAAAACAAAAAUAAAAGAAAAGAGAAUAAAAAAUUUAACUCAAUAAAAACUAAACUAAAAAAAAUUAUAAGAAAACUCACCAAACUUGUGAUGAAGAUCACAAGUUACCCUUAAUGGUUGCUUCACUGUGCUUGUGGCACCUUCCCCGGCAACGGCGCCAUUUGAUUCGACUCAUGGUAGCUUAGCUUUAAAGGCGUAUCAACAAAAUUUAUACCUUGAAUACUAUUACUAAAGUAGCCAAGCUACUAUAACAUAGUGGUUCUAGGAUCGUUCACUGGGAAGGGUUUUCGUAAACACAAGUGAUAUUCAAAUUAGGAAAAUAGGUGAUUUUCUUAUGGAUGUUAGCUUUAAAAGAAGAUGUAAAUUUUUUAGAAAGAUUUAAACUAAUCUAAGCUAACAUUAAAGACUAAAAUGAAAGGGUGUAAAAACAAGUUUCUCAAAGAUAGGAUAGUUAUGCUCUGGUUCUUAUGCAAAUUGGAAAUCUUAGGAUAGGCUCCUCGCGUUGGGGUUGCAACUAUGGUGAUGCUUGCUUCCCGAACCGGUAUGGAUUUAGCAAAUCAAGUUUUAAUCCUUUAAAAUGGCAAAACAGAUGGUAGUGAAUUUCAUCAAUGGUUAUUCACCUUAGACUUCCUUUGAAUGGCUCGUAAGAGAUAACUAAUCGUCUAAAGCCAAAAGCUUACCAAAUAUUGGCAACUCAAAGUCAUUCGAGGUGAUAAACUCACCUUUCAAUGGCCAUUGAAAUUGGUUCUAACAGAUUAAUGCAAAACUUGGAAUUGAAAACCUCACCUUCCAAUAGCUCGUAGGAGAUAACUAAUGGAUAGAAAUCCAAAAGCUUAUCAACUAUUGGCCGUUGGAAGUUGUCCAAAGGAAAUAAAAACCAAACUUUGCAUUAAUGAACCAUUAAUAAAAAAUGACUAUCUUACCUUCCAGGUGCGAGAAAUUUCCAUGGGAUUGCAUCCAAGUCAUCACAUAACAUCCAUACUUUGAGAAACUAAAAGUUUUAGCCAAUCAUCCUCUGAGGAAAAGCCCUCAGAGGCUGUUUGGCUACUAAGAAAAUAGAAAUGGGGAAGAACAGGAGAAGAGAGAAAAACAGAGCAAGGCUCUGUAUAUUCUAUAUAUUGAUCGAUAUAUAAUUACAACGGAUGCAAGGGAAUAUAUAUAGAGAAGUUUUUCCAAUCCUUCCUAGCUAAGAAAUCUUAUGAUUCGUGGAUUACAAGGAGAAGAAUGGAAAUUUAUACAAAAAUAUCUAAAAGAAAAGAUCUCGUGUGGAGUUGGCAGAAACAGGGGAAAAUUCGCACGUUGGAGUUCCAAUUUCGCACGUUGAUUUGAGGUGUGCGAAAUUCUCGCACAGUGGACUGAGGAAUUCGCACCUUGAACAGUGGUGUGCGAAAUUGUCCCUCAGCUUGAUGCAGUUGUCUUCCAAAGGCCAUAUCUUUCUCAAUUCAGCUCCAAAUCAUAUAUGGUUUGAACCGUUGGAUUUUUGACUUUCUGAGCUUUGAAAUGGUAUAUAGCAUGUAGAAAAUGGACUUCGGGAAGUGCUCCAAAAGUGCCAAAGAAGACUGCAGCUGCUGUCCUCUGUUUUCCUCUUUGCUUCUUUUAGCUUCUCUUUGCUUCUCUUUGCUUUUCUCCUUUUGUUGGCUUGCUUUGGUGUAGCUAAAACCUUGCUUUAACUUGUACAAGUAGUUCCUCCAUCAUUUGGCAUGCUUGAAUUGAUUCAUAAGCUGAUAUAAACAUGUAAACUUGCCACAAAAUGGUUAAAACCAAUUACUAAGGACCUUAAUGAAUUAAUUGGGUUAAAUGAAUAUGAUUACUACACAAAGGUGCUUAAAAUCAUUAUAAUUAGGUCUAAAAAAUAGCACUUUUUGGUAGUAAUCAAUGGCUGUGAAAUUUCGCAGCCAAAGGCUAAUUUCGCAGCCCUGCGAAAUUGGCCUUCAGCUUGGAGUGAUCUGCUUCCAAUGGCUCUAAUUUCUUCAUUUCAACUCCGAUUUGCAAACCGUUUAAAGCAUUGGAUUGUUGACUUCCUGAUCUUCGAAACGACAUAUAGCAUGUAUAAAUUGGACUUCAGGAAGUGCUCCAAAAGUGGCUGAAAUGACUAUCAUCAAGAAUGCUUCAUGGCAGAUUUCUCUUUGCUUCCCCUCCUUGCAUUCCGGAUUUGCUUAUGGCAAAGGACUUCAAAGCUUUGGUUAUUCAUGUUUUUGAGCUUUCCAUUGCUUUGCCAUGGAUUCCAAAGAACUCUCCUCAAUCUUGGAUUGCUUUGGUGAUCAAAAAGCUAUCAAAACACCAAAACUUAACACAAUUUGAUUAGAAUUGAUUGCAAGGGUCCUUAACAUGCCAAUUGAGUUAAAAGGUAAUAACUACUACUGAAAAGUGUUUAAAAGAGUUAAUUACAAGCUAUCAAAUAGCACUUUUUGAGUAGUAAUCAGUAUGCGCCAAAAAUACCAUAGUAUAUACAACCAAAUUGAAUAAGGUAUAUAUAGAAAUGAACAUCAAGCACCAAUGAUAGGAUGGACAACUCCAUCUAUCUCCUCUAACAUAGGGGUGGCUACCUGGUCAAUAUCCUUCGAUAUAGGUGUAGUAGCCUGAUUAGUGAUAUCCAUGAUAGGUGUAACAGCCUCGCCAGCAGCUUGUACCAUAGGGGGGUCAUCCCUAAUAAUGAUGUCCACACUAGUGUUAAUAGCAUAAAUGAAGAUCUCACCAUCGACCUGUCCUGCAGAAUUUGGAAUAUCAAUAGUCGAGUUAAAAAUCUUAGCUGCGGCAUCACCUGAUGUUUGUAAGAUAGGCAUGGUCUCAUGGGCUACUGUCGGUGCUCUAGUGUCAAAGCCAAAACCAAUCACCUCUGUGUUGCCAUCAACCUCUAAGUUGGUAUCAGUUAGUGUAACCAAAUCUCCCCUUUAUCUAGAUGGAAUAACCAAAGAAGUGAGCUAUUGUAUAGAAAAAGUGAGGUCAUCCAUCUGAGUCUCCAUCUUACUUAGGUAAGCGUCAAUGUGGAAGUCCAUGGACACAAAUAACUUCUGAAGUGUGUCUAGACGAGCCAUGAUUGAUAAAGUACUCGGGGUAGCAUCAACAAUCUAAGGCUAUGAAGGUUUAGGAAGAUCGGAGAUUGGUACUGUUGGUGUAGAAAUAGGAAUAGCAAGCUCUGGGGCACAUGAAAGAGAUGGUGGAAGAGGAAUAGGAAGCACUAGUAAGCUCAUGUCAAAAGUAAGAAUGAGUGGGAGCGGGCUCUUUGUAGUAGAUGGAAGUCGAACAAAAUCCAAAGCUCUCUUUCACCUAGUGCGAUGGGUAGUCAAUUGUGACCCUGAAUGAAUCAUUCGAGCACACUGAUCGAUAACAGAAGUGUGAGAAGCCAUGUGACGACCAAACUCAAGUAACUGUUGUCCACGGUGGAGCAAGUAGUAUGAGAGCAAUCAAGGCAAAGGAAUGAGAUAGCUUUGAGCUAAAAAUAACUGUUUAUCCUUAACCUUCUAAAAAAAAAGAAAUGAUGGUAUCCAACUGAGUUGAGGUGGACUCCACCCCUCGCCUGUGUGCAUAUGAUAUAACCCCCAUAAGACUAAAUCAGAGCGCUCUAUAGAGUGUCCACAACAAGUACCCUGAGGUGCUAGUAUAUGUGCAAUCCUCGAAAAAGCUAGUCGUGACUGAGGUGUAAAUCAGGCUUCAAGAGGAGUGGAUGAUGGUAAACCAAAGGCUGAAACAAUGCUCUCAGUGGAAAUAAUAUCAACUCGUCCUCUAAUAGAAAAAUGGAGCUCUCGGUACCCCCCUCUCUAAUCCUCGAGAGUAAAUAAUAACUCUCGUACACUAGCGACAUAAAAAUAUGGGGGAUGAUCCAUCAAUGCGAGAAAAUAAUAUCGGUCAAGGAGAUGCAUGGACAAUGCAGUGGGCUCAUAAGUACUAAAUGCCUUUAUGUCAUAAAAGAACUCUUGACCAAACUCCCGUUGAGAUAGGUCCACCCUAGGGGCAUCAUCACAAACUCUUAGAGAUGGAGGACGUGUUGGGCUCAGAGUAGGGGGAGCUGCCCAUGGAUGUGGAGGAGUGGUAGUAGGCCUGGUGGUCUUAGGAGUGGUUGAGCGAUCAAAAUGGGCCUUCAUCCUAGUCUUUACAUGCAUGGCUUCAGUCCUCUUAGUGGUUGGGUGGUCAAAACGAGACUUCGUCCUAACCUCUACAUGCAUGGCUUUAGUCCUCUUAGUGGUUGGGUGAUCACAACGAGCCUUCAUCUUGGCCUCUACAUGCUUGGCUUGACUAGUGACAUGCCUCUCGGUAAGCUCACUAAUCAGUACACCACUUUGACUUUGGACAAGAGGUCGGGCAUGCUUUUGCCUUGGGAAUGCUUAGUCUCAUUGUCACUUUGAAUAACAACUUUCCUUUUAUCUCGAGCCAUCUAAAAUAAAUGUCGAAAAAUAAACUAAACUUAAAAAGGGAAAUAAAUAAAUAAAAAUAAAAGCAAAAACUCAUAAGGGUUAAGAAAACAAUCCCAAAAAAAUUGAAUGCUCAUGAAAUUUAUGGAUUCAUGUGAAACGGUGGUAGACCAUUCCUAAAAUGCGGGAAAACAUUCAAGGUGUCCAACACUGAUGAAAAUAUGAGUCUUUGAAGCCUUAGAUAUAAUCCAAACAAUACUUAAGCUCAAAUAUCAUGUGACAAGGAAAUCAAAGUGAUUGGUUAGCUUAGGAGAAUGUGUAGAACAAAUAGAAAAAUCUACUAGAGAGUUUAAAAUGUUCUAGAGGAUAUAAAACAUAAAUUAGGCAACAAUUAUGCAAAACUCAUGGAAAAAUAAGAACCUUGCUCUCAAAGUAUUCUAAGAUGAUAAAAAAUCCCUAAGAAUCAUGUAGAAAAAAUUUCAAAAAUUUUCUCCAAGAAUAAACCAAAAAUUAUAACACCUUGAAUUUCCAAGCAAAACAAAAGAACUAUGUAACCAAAAUCAAUCUUGUUGUGUUGCACUCGGGUUUUUGGGGGUCAAGUUCCCCGUUGAGCUCGUGGGGGUCGAGGGGCAGUGCCCUAUAGAUUUUUUUUUUCAUUAUAUUUAUUGUUUUUUAUUUAUCCAUCCAACCAGAACAAUAGAAACCCCAAACAAUGUUAGUGAGAAUUGGGUAACACCGCAUUUUAUAUGAAGCAACAUCGCACAAUGAAACCAUAAAGAUCAAGGAAAAUCCAUGAAAAAUAAAUAAGAAAUGAGUAUGAGUGUAAUACGUACAUGGAAUGCAACAAACCCACAAUGAAAACCUAAAAUCGCCCUCAAUGGAAGCUAGGACGAUGAACAAGGGAAGUGGAAAUGACCAUUUGUAAAGGAGUUUGGGUGAUUUCAGAGUGAGCUCAAAAUAGAAAUUAAGUAUUUUGAAUUGGAUUUUUGGUUAAGAAAAGUCAUUUCGAAAUUUAACUAUUGAAUUUGAAAAUAACCUUAUUUUGAAUUCAUUAAUUAAUGGUAAAAAAAUGCACAUUUUAAAAUGAAACCAUUGGAUUCGAAAACUACCUUAUUUCGAAAUGGUUCACUAUAUACAAAAAAUUUUAAAAAACCUCAUUUCAAAAUGAAAAAAAAAAAAUUCAUUUCUAAAUUGGGCAAAUUUCGAAUUCACCUUCUGAAGUUAAAAAAUCUCAAUUCUAAAGUAAAAGAUUCAAUUUUGAAAAGCCCACCAUUUUGAAUUUGCUAAAUGUAGCCUCAAUACAUUGUUAAAACCCCAUUUCAAAAUUCCACUAAUGAUUUUGAAAAUAGCUCCAUUUCGAAAUGGCUCACUGUUGAUUCCAACUUCUAUUUCGAAAUAGCAAUUUUUUUAUAUUUCAAAUUUGCCUUUAUUUCGAAAUAACCCACGGUGAGUGUUGAAGUCCAUCUUAAAGCAUGAAAAUUGCUCAUUUCGAAAUUCAAAACUCAUUGUAUUUUGAACUCAUUGUCUGUGAGUUCAAAACACCUAUUUUGACAUUUACUAGUGAUUUCAAAAUUAACCUCAAUUCGAAUUCACUUUCUGUAGAUUUAAAAUUGCAAUUCUAAGACAAAAAUUUUGAUUUCAAAAGGAUCAUAAUAUUUAAAUCACCCAUUACUAGUCUCCAAAAGUGUCAUCUCUAUUUGAGAUUUGAAAUUCAAAAACAAAGGAAUUUUGAAUUCAGCCACUAUACCUUUAACUCUUUAUCAUAAAAAUUUAGGAUUUCCCUCCCAAGGGCUACUCAGUUUUGUAUUUCAUCAUUUGUUUUCAAAGUUCACCAAUGAUUCUCACAAGUAAAUUUUUGGGAGACCUAUUGAUUCGUGCCCAGUCGGUGUAUCAGCUGAUUCAUGUCCAGCUUCUGCUUCUUGAUUGAGGGAGUAAUCAACAAAAUUUAUAACCUAUUACACCAUGUACUAGGGUAGCAAAGACAAAGCUACUAUAGCAUAGUGGCUCUAGGAUCGUUCACUGGGAUGGGUUUUCACUUCACAAAUGAUAUUAAUUCAAAGCUAAAUUGGUGCCUUUUCAUUUCAAGGUUAGCUUUAAAAGAAAACAUAAUUUUUGGUAGAAAAGGUUGGUUUUAAGUUAACCAAAAAUAAUAACUAAUUUUACUUACAAAGAAAAGUGUUUCUUGGAGUUUAGACCACAGGGCUCAUAUUCCUUGUACAAAAAGGAGAGUUCCGGUCACUUGUUUAUUUUCCUCGCAUUGGGGAUUUAACAUAUAGUUAUUUCCCGAACCGGUGUGGUACAGAUGCUUCACUUUAAUGGGUUCAAACACUAAAUCCCUCUCACUGAUGCACCUUGCAAUGGCUCAUACCUCUCACCUAGCACUUGCCAUUCAAGGUGAUCUUUAACCUUGGACUUCUCGUCAAAAGCUCGCAAGAGAUAACUAAUGGAUAUCUCCGUGGAGUCCAAAAGCUUAUCAAGUGUUGUCUAUUCUAGAAAAUCCUACCUUCAAACCACCUCCCAAAGGCUCGCAAGAGAUAAACUAGUGCAUCUCAAUGGAUAGAGAUCACUUGCCUUAUCGAGUGUUGGCCCAGGUGAUUUAAUGGCGUUUUAAGUUAACUAAAAAGAUAAAAACCAUUAAUGGGUCACACUUUCUCUUCAUUAAAAACUAAAACAACAAAACUUCCAAUUUAUGCAUGAGGAAAUUUACCCGGCUUUCUUCACUCCAAGAGACAAAGAGCCUAGCCUCUCAUCCUCCGAGGAAAAAUCCUUAGAGUUUGAUUGGCUAGAAAGAAAAUAAUGAGAAAACAAAAGCAAAGCAAGUGCUCUGUAUUUUACUUCCUUCCCAAAACUGUAAAAAAGGAUUCUCCCCCUGAGAACAGGCUCCCAAGAGAUAUAUAUAAGGAAAAUUACAAAAUAUCUAUAUGAGGUUAUUCACCCUUUUUCCAAACUUAAUAACUAAGGAAUCCUAUAAUUGGUGGGUUACAAGGAGAUUUUGGGGAUUUAGACAACAAAUAUCUAAAGCAAAAUAUCUCAAAAUAUCCCAAAAUAUCGAUGGCAAAUAUCAGGAAGCUUCAGGAGAACACCGCGGCCCUGUGCAAAAUGGCUGCUCUCCCAUCCGGGUAGACGCUAUCAGAUGAUCCGGAUACGUCCGUCCGGAGAAGUUGAAACGCCCUCUUCUCCCAUCCGGCGUCAUGCGCCGGAUGCAAAAUAUCCGGAUGUAAUGGCGGCGACAGUAGAUUUCUGGAUGUGAUACAUCCGGGUGGAAAGAGGCGGCAGCCGGAUGCAAUGGCGGCAGCCGCUCCAUCUGGAUGAAACGAUAGCAUCUUAUCCGGAUAUGUUGUCCGGAUGCCCUCUGAUGGUGUAUCCUGACGCCCUAUCCGGGUAUACUCCUUGCAUGGAUUCCAAGUAACUCUCCUCAAUCUCAGAUUGCUUUGGUGAUCAACAAGCUAUCAAAACACAAAACUUAACACAUUUUUUAUUAGAAUUGAUUGCAAGGGUCCUUAACAUGUUAAUUCGGUUAAAAGGUAAUAACUACUACUCAAAAGUGUUUAAAAGAGUUAAUUCCAAGCUAUGAAAUAUCACUUUUUGAGUAGUAAUCACCUAUGAUCUUAAAUAUAGAUCAAUGUACCUAUAGGAGCUUUGUCACCUUGAACACAUGUGAGGCUUACCAUUUCACUCCCUUCAAGUUUGCAUUCACCUAUAUCACUCGGCUGUUUGCAAGCUAAGUUGCUACAACUUAUAAACUCAUUAGUAAGUUAAAAAUUAACUAAAAAAUGCUAACCACAUUGCUAAUGACUAAUUGAAAAUGCAAAACUAAAAAAAGAAAAAUUAAAUUAAAUAAAAAAAUAAAACAUAAAUUAAAUAAAUAAAAGUUUUACCUAAAUUUAAUUUUUACCUACUAGAUUUUCAGAAAAUACUUCAACCCUUUUAAACAUUCCCAUAAAGAAAAUGGAGAUUCUCCUCUUGUGUCUCAAAUCUUUCAAUGAAAUGCUUUAAGCGUUGACCAUUAACUUUGAAUUCACUACCAAUCCUCAGAUUUUGAAUGGUCACGGUGCCAUAAGGGAAGACUUCCUUUACCACAUAAGGGCCAUUCCACCUCGACCUAAGCUUUCUUGGAAAAAUGUGAAGCUUGGAGUCGUAUAACAACACAUUUUCACCUUGCUUGAACUCUCUUCGUAAAAUAAGUUUGUCAUGGUAGAAUAUGUGUUUUUCCCUUGUAUUAUGUAAGCAUUCAUAACUUUAAUUUUGAUAUGCCUCAAGUUCCUUCAUAUCAUAUUUCCUUUUAGCUCUAGUUUGAUCCAAAUGAAAGUUCAUCUUCUUUGUAGCCCAAUAUGCACGAUGUUUGAGCUCUAUAGGCAAAUGACAUGAUUUACCAUAAAUAGUCUGAUAUGGUGACAUGCCAAAGCCAGUCUUAUAGGUUGUCCUAUAUGCCUGAAGUGCAUCACUCAACUUGGUAGACCAAUCUUUUCUUGUAGUAUUGACUACUUUGGUGAGGAUUUUCUUAAUCUCUCAAUUUUCUAGCUCAACUUGCCAAUUCGUUUGAGGGUGAUAUGGGGUGGACACUUUAUGCCACACUCCAUAUUUCUGCAAAAGAGUGGAAAAGGGCUUGUUACAAAAGUGUGAACCUCAAUUACUAAUGAUUACUCUCAGAAUGUCAAACCUAGAGAAAAUAUUCUCCUUUAAAAAUUUGAGUACCAUUUUGUGAUCAUUGCUCUUGCAUGCCACUGCUUCUACCCAUUUAGAAACAUAAUCCACUCCCACCAAAAUAUAGAGAUUACCAAAAGGAGGGAAUGGUCCUAUAAAGUCAAGGCCCCAACAAUCAAAGACCUUAACAACACAAAUAUAAUUUUGUGGCAUUUGAUACCUUGUGCUGAUUUUCCCCAAUUGUUGACAUUGUGGACAAGUUCCGCAGUGAGUGUUGCAAUCCUUGAACAUAGUUGGCCAAUAUAAUCAACUCUGUAGAAUGUUUGCUAAAGUCUUCCUCGGAGCAAAAUGACCUCCACAAGCUCCCUUAUGGCACAUUUUCAAUAUGUUGUUCAUCCUCUAGAACACAUCUCCGGAUAAUUUGAUUUGGGCAAAACUUAUACAAAUAUGGAUCAUCCCAAGCAUAGUGUUUUUCUCAUAAAAGAAAAUACUUUUUCAUCUCCAUGUUCCAUUCUGAGGGAAGCUCUCUAGUUGCCAAGUAGUUGACUAUAUUUGCGAACCAAGUCAACUUCUCCACUGCACAAAGUGCAUCAUUAAUUCAUACUGCCUUGAAAUGUGACUCUACUUUAACUCGGGACAGAUGAUCAGUAACCACAUUCUUUACCCUUUGCUUAUCCUUGAUUUGAAUGUUAAAUUCUUGAAGAAGAAGGAUCCAUUUGAUAAGUCUUGUUUUGACAUCCUUUUUGUUGAGUAGAUAUUUCAAGGUCGAAUGAUUAGUAAAAAUUACUAUUGAAGUUCUCAAAUGGUAGUUCUUGAAUUUAUCAAGUGUGAACAGCACUACAAGGAACUCCUUUUCAGUAGUUGUGUAGUUCUUCUAAGCAUCAUUGAGGGUCUUACUAGCAUAGUACACCACAUAUGGUUUUCCAUCCUCUCUUUGACCUAGUACGACUCCCAUUGCAUAGUCACUGGCAUCACACAUGGGGUCUCACAAUUAGUGCGAUAGUGAGGAGUGACUUUAGCCUCUCAAAAGCUUCUGGGCAUGCUUUAGUCCAUAUGAAUUAUGCAUUUUUAAGUAAUAAAGCACAAAGAGGUUAAGAGAUUUUUGAGAAGUCAUGUAUGAACCUUCUAUAAAAAUCUGCAUGCCCCAAAAAUUGUCUCACCUCUUUAACGGUAGUAGGCGAAGGUAGCUUUGAGAUGAGCUCAAUUUUUUCUGGAUCUACUUGAAUGCCUUCUCUAGAGAUGAUACGGCCAAGUACUACCCUUGAGGUUGCCAUGAAGUGACACUUCUUCCAAUUUAGGACCAAGUCUUUCUCAAUGCACCUUUUCAAAACUUUUUUAAAUUUAAAAGACAAUCAUCAAAGGCCUUCCCAUAAACUAUCAGAUCAUCCAUGAAAUCUUCCAUGAUUCUCUCUACCAUGUCAUGGAAGAUAUUGACCAAACACUUUUGAAAUGUGGUCGGCGUAUUACAAAGACCAAAAGGCAUGCGCUUAUAAGCAUAGGUGCCAAAUGGGCAUGUGAAUGUGGUUUUCUCCUAAUCCUCUAAUGUAAUGACAAUUUCAAAGUAACCUGAAUAGCCAUCCAAGAAGCAAUAAUAGUCAUGACCAACUACCUUCUCCAAAACCUGAUCUAAGAAAGGUAAUGGGAAAUGAUAUUUCAUGGUGACUGCAUUUAACUUCCUAAAAUCAAUGCAUACUCACCAACCUGUAGUCAACCUUGUAGGAAUGAACUCUCCUUCAUCAUUCUUUACCACAGUUAUCCUGCUUUUCUUAGGUACUACUUGAGUAGGGCUCACCAAACUAUACCUGCAUCUAAAAGCUUCAAUACCUCAUUUCUGACUACAACUUGUAUAAGGGUAUUUAGCCUUUUUUUGUGGUUGCCUUAGUGGUUUUACAUUAUCUUCCAAAUAAAUAUGAUGCGUGCAAAUCAAGGGAUUUAUCCCUUUCAAAUCUAAAAUAAACCAACCAAUCACUCUUUUACUCUCUUUAAGCACUUUUAAAAAAUUGAUUUGUUGCUCUUCAAUUAAUGUAGUUGAAAUGACCAAAGGUUUUUCUUCAUUUUUCUCUAAAUAAACAUACUUAAAACCAUGUGGUGGGCUUUAACUCUAGUUUGUUGGUCUCAACAUUCCCCUUUUUUAUUUCUUCAUCAUUUUCAACACUAUUCAAAGACUAAAUGCUACAUUUUUCUUUCCACUUUGUAGCAACUUCAACGCGUUCUUUCUCAAUGAUUGUAGAGAAAAAUUUGUUUAUAUUUUCUUCCAUUAACUUUUAUAUGGGUUCUUGCACCAAGGCCUCUAUAAUGCAUGCUUCCUCAUCCUCCACAUCAUCAUGGUCCAUCGGUUGCUUGCAUAAAUUGAAGACAUUCAUUUCCACUACCAUGUUCCCAAAAAAUAACUGCAUCAAUCCAUUCUAACAGUUAAUGACAGCAUUGGUUGUAGCAAGGAAGGCUCUCCCAAGAAUAAUUGGAACAAAAUUCACACAUUUUUUCAACGGUUCUGUAUCUAACACCACAAAGUCCAUUGGGUAGUAAAACUUUUCAACUUGCAGCAAGACAUCUUCGACUACUCCUCUAGGUAGUUUAAUCAAACAAUCUGCUAAAGAGAGUGUAAUGGUAGUAGCCUUAAGCUUUCCCAAUCCCAAUUGCUUAUAGAUUGAAUAUGGAAGCAAAUUUAUACUAGCUUCCAAAUCUAACAAAGCCCUUUCCACGAAUGAGUCUCCAAUUUGGACUGAGAUGGUAGAGCAACCUAGAUCUUUGUACUUCACCAUUGCCUUAUUCUCAAUGAUGGCACUGACUUGCUUAGUGAGGAAUGUUUUCUUGCUUAAUUUAAUCAUUCUCUUCAUAGUGCAUAAGUCCUUAAGGAACAUUGCAUAAGCAAGCACUUUCUUGAUCAUAUCAAGGAGUGGAAUGUUGAUCUUCACUUGCUUCAAAACUUCCAAAAUCUCUAAAGUCUUAUCCCCCACUUUGUGUCUUUGCGUUGCUGAAGGGAAAGAAAAAUGAUUGAAAACACUCUUUUUAUCUUUGCUCACAAUGACUUUCUCAUAUUUUUCAUACUCUUUCUCAUUUCUAGCAUUUUUCUCCAUGGUUGGUUCAUUUCUAGCAAGAAUAUCUUCAUUUAUCGGUAACUUGGGCCUUUGAUAUUCUUUUCCAUUUUUUAUUGUGAUAACUGCAUUGCAAUCUUUCUUUUGCACUUCAGAAACUUCAUUUACUCAUCUCAUAUUUUUCUAUUGUUGAGUUGUGAACUUUCUUUUCUCUUGAGAUAAGCCUGUAGCAAGUUGGCUCAAAAUGGUUCAAAUAUUUGCUAGUUCUUAAGAUGCUUGAGCAUUUAUCCUAUUUUGAUCCUCAUUACGGUUGUCUUCCUUCUAUAGAAACUCUCUCAUCAUAUCUUCCAGUCUUGAGUUAAUUGAUGAGGUAUGAUGUUGUUGUUGAAAAUUUUGAGAUGGCAUACCUUGUGGUUGAAAACCUUUUUGCCCAUUAGUCUGAUUACCCUGAAAUCAAUUUCCUUGCUACUGAAAAUGGCCAUUGUUACCUCAUCUCCAUGAUAGAUUUGAAUAAUUCCUCCAACCUGGAUUGUAAGUGUUGGAAUAUGGAGAAUUGCUAGAAUAUUGCUUGUAUGUCCUUAAGGCAUUGGUUUGCUCUGAAAACAUGUCUUGCACUAUAAUUAGAGUGGGACAAGAUUGCACACCAUAUUCCAUAGACUUACAUAUCAAGAACGGUUGAGUUAUUCCCUAAUUGACUAUUUGUACCUCUUGACCUCUUUUGGCUUCCAAAUCAUCCAACCUUCUCAUAAUGGUUACAAACUUUACUUGGACAUCUAAACUCUCUGGUAAUGUAUUCACUCCACUAGCUCUUGCCCUGUUCAUUGUUCUAUCUCUAGGUGUUUCCUUGACGAUUGGUUCUUCCCAACUUCUAGAUACCUCGGCAACAUAAUCAAGGAAUUGAAAUGCUUCAUCAGGGUUUUUAUUCAUGAAAUCUCCUCCACACAUAGUCUCGAGAAGUUGUUUCAUUGGUAGUGACAUGCCUUCAUAGAAAUAUGAUACUAGUAUCUAGUUGUCAAAUCUGUGAUGGGGAUAUGCUGCAACCAUCUCCUUGAAUCUUUCCCAACAUGCAAAAAAUUUCUCAUCCUCCAUAGCCUUGAAAUUCGAGGUUUCCUUUUUCAAUGCACUAGUCAUAUGUAUUGGAAAGAUUUUUUGCAAAAACACUGAUUGUGGAUCACCCCAAUUUCUAAUACUAUAGGGUCUAAGACUAUUUAACCAAGUCUUAGCUUUAUCCUUCAAUGACAAGGGGAAUAGCUUCAUGCGGAAGAUCUCUAAAGGAGUGUUGGCUUCUCGAAAAAUUGAAACGAUGUCCUCAAAUUCCUUGAUGUGAGAGUAUGGGUUUUCAUUUUUCGUUCCCUUAAUAAUGGGUAACUGAGAUACCACUUAAGGUCGAAUGGUAACAUGAUCAUGAUUUGGAGGUAGAAUAAAACACGAUGGUGUGCUCAACCUGGGAGGAUUUAGAAACUCUCUCACAGUUUUUUGGUCCUACAUAGGUGGUCAUGGCCUGUUGUUACUACUGUUGGAUUCUUUAGUGUCCUCCAUAUUUGGUUAAGAUUCCUCAGUUGUUCUUUGAAGUCUACCUAAAAGAUCUCUUUCCCAACCAAGCAUAAAAUAGAAGAAAAAUAUAUAUAAAGAAAAAAAAGAACUAAAACAAAGUAUUGCCAAUCCCUGCCAACGACACCAAUUUCUUGACGAAAAUUCUCUAUUGUACCAAAAUACUUAGCUUUUUUUACGUAGCAACUCCAAUUAAGAAAAACUAGAGAAAGAGUCACUACAACUUUUGAAGUACUCCAGGCAUCGUCCUCAAGAAUUAGCUUAUGGAAAGAAUUAAUACUAGAAUAAAUGAAUUGCUUUCGUCUAAAUCCUAAAGUGAAAAAAAAAAUGAGAAUAAUGUGAAACUAAGUAAAAGAAAUUAAAUUAAUAACAAAAUGGAUAUUAAUAUUAAAUUCAAUUGAUUCAAGUUUGGGCCUUUCCACAAUCCAACCUAAGGUAUAGAAAUUAGAGAAAACAAAGGUCUAUUAAGUAAUAUGAUCUUAGGGUUUUGGGAUCCUUGGCCGCUCACGAUCAAGUUGAGUUUUAUAACUGAAAAUUGCAUCAGAAACCUAUUUUUUUCCUUUUUAAAACAGAUUCCUAAAACCAUCAAAUGAAUGAGAUUGAUUACUACUUUAAGAUUUGGCUUUUUAACCCUUCCUACUCCUUAUAGCUUUGUUUUGGGGCAAAUAAUGAUAGGGAAGACGAGGAUAACUAAUGAUAAAAAAUUACCAAAAAUCACUAGUAUUGGGUAAUAACCUACCAUAUCAUUCCCUAAACCAACUCACAAGGAUAGGAUAAAAAAAAUGAUAAAUUGUCACCCAACCAAUAAAUAAUCUCAUUGUUAUAAUAAUUUACUCAUUGUCCCUAUAGGUUUCCUAGCCCUUAGGUUUUCAUGCUUUAAGCUCCAAGUUGGCUCUUAACCUCUCAUGGGGGUGAUGUCACAUUCACAAUCCAUAAUAUGGUAAAAAUCCAUAAUUUGAAUAAUAAUAAUAAAAAAAAAAACAAACCAAAGUUCUCGUCUUCUUCCACCUUUGAUGUCAAACUCUCCGAAAAAAAAAAUCCAAGAUCCCUAAAACCUAGAACUAAGAGAGUUUAUAUAAUACCAUCAAUUACCAAACAUGUGGCACACACUCAUUGGCCACUUAUUAAAAAAUAAAUACCUAAAAAUGAUUAAAAAAAUAAUAAAAUGGUGAUUUCUAGUCGUGUGGGCUCCAUUUAGGAUGGAGUGCCCUAGAUGCAAUUCCCGAGGUAGAGGAGACAAAACAUCGAAGUGGCAAUGGGUGAAUUCGAAAUUGGUGUCAUUUCGAUGUGGAUUUCAAAUUCAUAAGUUGAAUUUUAAAAUCAUUUUGAAAUCAUUUCAGCUCCGAUUUGCACAUUAUUUAAUGCUUUGGACUUGUAACCUCCCAAGCUUCGAAACAAUAUAUUGUAUAUAUAAAAUAAACUCUGGGAAGUACUCUAAAUUUGUCCUCAAAUUUAGAGUAUAUAUUAUCAUCAGAUUUUUGAGUUCUAAAUUUCCAUGUAGCUAAAUCUUGCUUCAUGCCUCAUUUCCUAUGUUUUCUUGCCUUCUUUCUUACUCCAUAAUGGUCAUUUCUCAUCUUCCAAACUCAUGAUAUCCUUGUUUAGCCUUUCCUCAUGGUUUAUGAGUCCUGACUCACUUAUUUCCUCGUUUAACCCUUUCUUGAUCUUUCAAAAUUUAAAGUGAUUUAACUUACACCCUUUUCUUCCCUUGAACCUAAGAUAAGUCUCCAAAGUACAAAUUAAACUCAUGGCUAGGGCCUUAGCAUCAAUUUAGGUUAAGUUAGGUGAUUUGAAUGUCCUUUGGUGUAUAAAUCAUAUCGAAUAUGUGCCAUUGAGCACAUAUUUUGGCUCCAAUCAAGCUUUCCCGCCAAAUUCUGCAUGCCAAACAUUGAGUGAUAGAAUGGAGUAGGUUGUCCGAAGAUUCACUUGAGGCUCUAUAGUACAGUCAUGAAAGCACACAAAUUAGAUGAUAUGUAGUUGGUUGCUCUCUUCCCCAUGUCACUUAGUUGAGCAGCAUAGAGGUGGUUGGCAUUAAUUAAGCCUUCAAGACUUUGCACUUGGAAGGAUGUGGCCUAUGAGUUUUUGACAUAGUUUGCCUUUAGUGCCGAUAUUGAUUUUUUUUUUUUCACUAAACAAGACGUCAAGAGUGUUACUUAACCAUCCCUAUGGGAAAAGCAAAAGUUGUUGCCUUAAGUGUUAAUAUUGAUGUUUCUAGGUGAGACUUAGAGGCUACUAAGCAGAGGCCAAAUGAGUCUAUUUCUUCAUUUAUUAGGCAUUGGAGGGCUAAGGUGGUUGAUAUGAUAGAUUGACUUAAGGAGUAAGAUCAGAUUGACGCACUUCUUUGGAACCUUCAACCGGGGUUUGCUAGACAUCUUGUAGGUAUUCCAUUUCAAGACUUUUGAAGUUUGGUUCAAGUCGCUUGUAGUGUUCAGGAGGGUAUUGAUAAAGGGUUAUAGACAAACACUAUUCCUUCCUUAGACAAUAAAGGAAAGAAGCCUAUAGGAUCAUCAGGGAGUCUUGGAGAGGUUAACACUAUCAGUUAUCAUCAUUGAGGUUAGCUUAUCAGUCAUACCAAAGGUCUCCUACAAUUAGAGCCCACUUUCCUCAUCCAUUGUGCCAAUAUUAGUCCACCUAUAUUCAACAACCUUUCAUUGCUCAGACCAGUAUGCAACCACGACUACCAUAUCCUAGAGACACUGGUUCUCAUUCAUUACUCAUGUUCCCACUCAUAUUUUUUACACACAUGAUCUUUAUCGAAGAGGGGCAUAUUUGUAGACCCUCCAUUCUAUCUCCUUAAUACAUGCCCUAUUAAGUGUUCUUUCAAUACUCCACAAUGGUUCCCUAGUGGCUCUAUGUUGCUCAUAUAACCUACCUUUUUUAGCCACCUUGGAGACUUUGGUUGAGGAAUUUAUUUCACCCCUCAUUAUGACUCUUGGCAUAAUCGAGUUAGAUUUAGAUUUUUCUUUUUUCUUUUUAGGAUAGCUCCUUUAAGUACAUCUCUAGAAUAGAGUACUUAGGCAUCAUUUUUCGAUCACCUUGGCCCAUUUAGACACUUUUAGCCCAUUUAGGCACAUCCGACCCAUUUGGGAUCACCCUAACCCAUUUAGAUACAUCUGGAUUAUUCAGAUUACCUUGACCGAUUUAGACACAUUUGGCCCAUUUAGGUACAUCCAACUCAUUUAGGUCACCUUGGGCCAUUUAGACACACAUAGGCCCAUUUAGGCACAUCUGGCCGAUUUAAGAUCACCUUAGCCUAUUUAGACACAUCCAACCUAUUUAGGAUGACCUUGCCUCAUUUAGACACAUUUGACCCAUUUAGGAUUACCUGAACCCAUUUAAGCACAUUCGACCCAUUUAGGUCAUCCUAGCUCAUUUAGACCACUUAGGCCCGUUUAGGCACAUUAGGCACAUUGGAGCCAUUUAGGAUCACCCUGGCCCACUUAGGCAUGCCUUGACCCAUUUAGCUCACUUGGCCCAUUUAGGCACAUUUGGUCCAUUUAGGAUCACGUAGGCCAAUUUAGGCAUAUUCGACCCAUUUAGGUUGCCUUGGCCUAUUUAGAAACAGCCAAGCCUAUUUAGGUCACUUAGGCCCACUUAGGCACACCUUGCCCUAUUUAGGUCACUUAGGCCCAUUUAGGCUCAUUCGACCCAUUUUGGAUCACCCUGACCCAUUUAGGCAUAUUUGGCCCAUUUAGGAUCAUCGUGGCCCAUUUAAACACACCCUAGCCCAUUUAGGUCAUUUAGGCCCAUUUAAGAACACAUUAACCCAUUUAGGAUCACCCCAGCCCAUUUAGACAUACCUAGGCCCAUUAAGGCAUAUCUGACCCAUUUUAGAUCACCCUAACCCAUUUAGACACAUUCGGCCUAUUUAUGAUCACCAUGGCACAUUGGGCCCAUUUAGGGUCAGUUAGGCCCAUCUAAGCACACCCUAAGCCCAUUUAGGUCACCCAUUGUCUCACUUCUUAUUGCAUGGUUUGUGUGAUUGCAUUGUUGAACUUCCUUGCAUGGCCUGCAUGACACUUUGUUUUUUUUUUUGUUAUUAUUAAUUACUUAUUUAUUUUUAUUUAUUAUCUUGCCAUUUAUUUAUUUAUUAUUUAUCUAUUAUUAUUUCAUCAGUUUCUGAAUUAUUUUUAAUUACUAUUCAUUUGUUCAAUGUAAUUUUAAUUUUUUUUUUGUUUUUGUAGGGAAAUUUACCAAAGAGAGAGCCAACGGAGAAGGAAAAUAAGAAUCACCAAAAUGAAAAAGGAAGAUAAAGACAAAAGAGAGUAAAACUUACCAAAAGGAGAGGGGAUUGUGAGUUGCAUUAUGAAAGUAUGGAGAACGCAUUUUGGGAAGUUUAUCAAAGAGAGAGUGAAUGGAGGUGUAAAGCAAGAAUUACCAAAAUAAAAAAGGAAGACAAAACGAGAGAGAGUAAAACUUACCAAGAGAAGAGGGGAUUGAGGGUUGCAUUAUGAAAAUAUGGAGAACAUGUUUUGGUAAUUGAGAAAUUCAGCACAUGGAGGUUUUGGAGUAAGGAGAGGAAGGAUUUGGUCAAGGUGGAAUUUUAAGAAAAAAGGAUAUUCAAUGUGGUAGGAAGGAAUGUUUAGCAUAUUAAGGAAGAAUGUGGGGAUUGGUAGGGGGGAAGAAGAACAAUUGCAAUUUUGAGCAUAAUUUUUGUAAAAUUUAUUGGAUGAUUGGUUUGUAUAAUUUUAAUGUUAGUAGAUUUUAAAAUUUUACGGAAUGAUUGUUAGGUUAAAUUCCCAUGUUGAAUGUGUUUUAAAAAUUCGUUAAAAAAAUUAAAUAAAAAUUCUUUGAAUGUUUGUUAGGUUAAAUUCUCAUGUGAGCAUUAUUAUUAUUAUUAUUAUUUAAUGCUAUAUUUGGUUGAAUUUUCAUGUCAAUAGAUUUUUUUUUAUUAAAAAAAAAUUGUUGAAUGUUUGUUAGUUUAAACGUUUAUGUUAAUAUAUUUUUAAAAUUCAUAGGAUGUUCUUGGCAUAAUUCUUAGUUGCCCUUAUCUCUAAAACCUUUCUAAAAUAAGAAAGUCAUUCAAGAAAAUAAAAAAAAUAUAAGAAAAAGGCAAAGUUGCUGCCUUUUUUUUUUUGGGGGGGGGGGGGGGGCCUUAUUUAUUUAUUAAUUUAUUUUUGUCAAUCUCCUACAAAAUGAUAUCCCACUUACACCCUUACGCAACAAGAGCGCGUGGGACACCCACUUCGACCCAACAACUUUAUGAUGAAUCUGAACCCUGUGGACAAUAAUACCAUGUGCAUAUAUACGAGCCUGUAACACUCAUUUAUGGGUUUAAAUUCAUUCAAAUGAGUCAGUAGUAAAAGCUAUGAAACAGAUCGAACCCCACCUUUUUUUUUUUCUUUUUUUUCGUUUUUAAAUUUUCUGGGGUCCCUCAGUUACUUUACAGAAGGUGGCAGAGAAAGAGAGACGAAUAAUCACUUUCAAUGCUGUUGUCUUCUUGUUGUAAGGGUAAAAUAAGAGGCAAAGAAAUUAAUGAAUUCAUUAUCUUACCUUUCUAUUGAAAUGCCUUCCAAGAAAUGUUUUGAGAGCUUUGAGUUUAGUCUAUAAUAAUGGUAGUAUAUUUCAAUGAAUAUGCAUUCUAGAAAAAUAUAUACCUUUAGCAUAUACCAAGAUAUCCUAGGGUUUCAAGUCAAGUAACAACCAAUCAAAACAAAAUCACUCUUCUUGGAAAACAUGGAUGUUCGAGUAUCCAGCUCUUUUCUUUAAUUGUGCUAACAUCGGCUCUCUCUCCAGCAUGCAAGUGUGCGUCCCAGGCAGCUCUUUUGUGCUUUAAAUGAAUUGAAUUCUUGAUCUUAUUCUGCCAUUGUUUUGGCUCAAACCUAAGAAGUAUAUUUACCCUAACUUCUUUUCAUGUCUUCAACUUACUCAAAGGCUCACAAGUCCCAUUGGAAGUAAGCAGUUAAGGAUUUUUGAACUAAAAUUAUCAAACAUAGUCUAAUAGGUUAUUAAUGAAAUUAUUGAUGCAGAAUAACAGGGCGGGUGACUUCAAAUGGAUACACUGAGGUCUAUCUGUGCGUGUUAGGCAUUCAUGAACCUGUUUUCUUCGGUCAAAGAGCAGCCAAUACAAGGAAAAAACAUGGCGAAAAUUAAGUGAAGUAUGACUUCUGGAAGAUUUAUCACCUUCGUAAAUGAAGUGAGAGUUUUGACCGAAUUGAAGUAAAAAAAUUAAAUGCAACGGCUAGACCGGCUCCAACUAUUAAGAUUAUAAGUGCCACACAGAAAGAACGGAAAGAACGGUCCUAGUAAAUGAAGUAUAAAGACAUGAAAACAUAAAAUUGUCCAGGUAAAUGAAGACAUGCAAUGAAGAAGAAAUCUGUUGCAGACUACACAAAUCACAACCACAUAAAUCAACCACCCACCCAUUUUUCGAACUUCCAGCUCUCAUGCACUGGCACAGUUCGGUCCUUUUAAAAAUUAAAGUAGGCAUCUAAAAUUUUAUUGGUUUCAAGAAAUUUGGUGCACUAGGAUCCAAUGAAGAGAACCUUUUUAUUCUAAAUAUUCAAUAGUAGAUUCCAUUCUUAGCUUACCAAUAUAUAUAAAUUACUCAGGACCUUAAGAAGUUGAUAUUACAAUUUAAACAAUGUUAUAUCAUGUGUAUUAGGAGAGAACCAAUCUCACCCACAAAUCAAGAACACUCAAUUGUCAAUUCUUAAGUUUAUGACUAAUAUAGUUUAUGUAUCUUUUGGAAAGUCAUGCGUAUAUUUAAAAGACUAUAGUGUACACCAAUAAUAAUAUACUUGCACCAUUCAUCUAUGUACCUCUUUCUGGUAUCAGAGCAAUUCUAGCUCCCAUGAGUUCUUUUUUUCGCCUUCAUCCUAUGUUUCACCAUGGCUGAAGCAAGCUCAACCAGGCUAUCCCACCUUCCCUUACCUACCAAUACAACCAUGAACCUGGACAAUCUCAUUGCCAUCAACACAAUUAGCUAGCCAACUUCCACUCAAGCUCAUCCUCACUAACUAUUACUCAUGGAAAACAUAGUUUGCUGCACUGCUCUUUGGAUAUGACCUACUUGGCUACAUUGUCGGAACAAAGCCAGGACAAACAAAUAUCAAUCGUAACUAUACUAUUUGGACAAGUAGGACAAGCUUCUUCUUCUAGGAAUCAUCGGCUCUCUCAGCCAUAAAGUCGUACCUGUGGUUCAUUCAUGCAAAACUUCCACUAAAGCUUGGCAUCAUUUUUCAAAGCUCUAUGUCAAUCCCUCAUUCUCCAAAACCAUGGGAUUGGUAGAGCAACUCAUUCUUCUCAACCAUGGCUCUUAACCAAUGGUUAACUACCUUGCAACAAUCCAUGAUAUUAUUGAUGAAUUGGACCUUCUUAGAGAAGCCAUUCCAAACCAAUAACUCACCCCUUAUGCAUGCAAACAUGUCACCCACGAAUUCAAUGAAUUGUUGUUGUUAUAUGCGCACGAGAUACUAUGAUCACAUUUGAUGAGCUGCAUGAAAAAUUGAUGGAAUAUGAAGCCUUCCUCAUGUAGGAAGAGCUUCGUUCCACUAGCACUCUUGGUACCAUUAAAGUCAACAAUACACAAUUUUCAUCUUCCCAUAGUGACAAAAACGCUAGCCAAAAAUAUUUCCCUAGUAGGAAAGGAUACAAAGGCCAACAUCCUCCUCAUUUUGGGAAUCAACACCCCAACAAGAACGCCACUAUGAUUUGCCAAUUCUGCGAGAAGAAAGGUCAUACUACUUGCUAGUGUUACUUGGCUAAGAAAUUGUUCCUUUCAUCCACACCUACUACUAGUCCAAUUAUCCCCACAAACAACUUCCUAACCAAUUGGCUCGUAGAUAUCAGUGCCUCACAUCAUGUUACAUCUAAUCUUAACAAUUUGUCUCUCUGCCAACCAAUGAAUCUGGUCAUUAAUAGUUUUCACAUUUCCUAUACUUGGAGGGUUGUUCCAAGAUUAAAUAAAGUUUUUUCCCAAGCUAAUCUUAAUGUAGUCUUUUCCUAUUCUUUGAGGGUUGUUCCAAGAUUAAAUAUGCUCAGUUUCAGAAUUGAAAGGACUUUUUCAUAUUGCUAAGAAAAAAACUUAUGAGAUUGAUUUUUCUAUCAAAAUUCUUAUCUCUAAAGUGGAUUCCUUUGAGUGGUGAGCUUAAUUCUGAGUUCUUAUCUUUAAGGUGAUGAAUUUCUUAUCGUUAAAGUGGUGAACUUGUGUUAUUAACUUAUCAUUUUAUUUCCUUAAAACGGUAUCAUUUUGUGUCAGAAAAAGUAGUUACAGGCUCCCUUCAAGUUUCUUAUGUAUCAACCCACAAUCAACUUGUGGAUAUACUCAACAAACCAUUGCCCAAGUCCCGCUUUACAUUCUUUCAGUCCAAGAUUGGCAUUUUUUUUUUUUUUAUGGAAGCACCAUCUUGCAAGGGCAUAUUAGGAGAGAACCAAUCUAACCCACAAAUUAAGAGCACUCAACAAACCAUUGCAAGGGCAUAUUAGGAAAGUCAUGUGUAUAAGAUUGUAGUGUACACCAAUACUAAUAUACUUUCACCAUUCAUCUAUUUACCUCUUUAAUGUGAAUGACAUCUACACCAAAAGAUAAUUUGGUGCCUAUACAUGCGUUAGUUUUUCAACUAAAUUGUUGAACAAAUGCCAUGAAUUGAGGUAUUACGAAUUAUUAAAAAGUUAAACUUGACUUAGAAUGUUUCUAAAAAUUAGAAUUUCACUUAGUUUAAGCUAACUAGAAUAUUUUAUUUUUGGCAAUUUAUUAUUUUCUAUUUUUUUUUUAUGAAGUUUUAUAUUUUAUAAGAAGUUUCUAUUUUAUUAGGUGUUAGUAUCUAUAAAUAAGAUGUAAUUUAAUAGUUGAAUAAGAGCGGUGAAAAACAAUAAUUUUUUUCUUAAUCCAUCUCAGUUGCUUAUCUCCCUUUAUGUUAUUAUUUGUCAUAAGUUAUUUCAACCCUAUUACUCCAACAAAUGGCUAUCACUGUCAUUCAAAAAAGUGGAAAUUGGCAUGUAUCUAUUUCAAGUCCACAAAGUCAAUAAAUGUAAUUACAAUAAAGGGGUAUGAAACUACUCUAUCCUAAAAUUAAUCAAAAGGAAUUUUUUUUUUGAAAAAUAUAAGUAAGAAAGAUAAGAAAGCUCUUACCUCCAUCAAUUAAGCAAUGGAUGAAGGUACUUUUGAGAAGAUUUUCAGUGCAACCAUAACCAAAUAUGAGAGAAUUUUAAGCACACAUAACAUAUUUAACAAUAUACAAAAGAUUAAUCUUCAAACUCUAAUAAGAGAAUUUGAAAGUUUGAGCAUGAAAAAAGAAAUCGAAAUAAAUCUCUAAUUAUUUUUCUAGAGUAUUAGCUGUUGUGAGUUUACAAUAAAAAUAUGUCAAAAGUUUGAAUGAUAGCCAUGUGGUAAAAAAAUAUGUUCAAUCUUUAGAUUCCAAAUAAGUUUAACUAUAUUGUUGUUGUCAUUGAAGAAUAUAAACAUUUAGAUUCUAUCACCAUUGAUCAACUCAUGAGAUCACUAUAGACUCAUAAAGAGAUUAAAAAGAAAUAACUAAGAAAAAUUACAACUUUUUUAAACAGAUUAAACUUAUACUAAAGGAGAAUGAUGAAAACAUUAGUGAAAGAAGUCAAAACAAUCAUGAAUAUGUCAAAGACAUGGUCAUAGCCAUGGCUAAGACAAUAGAGGAAGAGAUAGGUUUAAUUUAUCAAACAAUGAAAUAACAAGUCAAAAUUCACAUUCCUCAAGAGGACAUGAAAGAUGACACAACUUCAGGCAUAAUAAAAGAAGAGGAUAUGAUAAAUUUCAAAUUGAAUGUUAUAAUUAUAAAAAAUAUGGUCAUGAUGCUUAUGAAUAUAGAAAUGCUACAAACAAUAUGAAAAGAUACGUCAAAGGAGUUGCCACCUAGGACCAAACUUCCUGCUGAUCAAGUCUCAUAUCGAAUAUUGUAAACCCUCAAUUUUGUCCCUUUAGCACAUGUCUUUAAAAUUCGUUUUCAAUGCUCCACAAUAGUUCCUUGGUGGCCCAUGGCUACUCAUACCACUUACCUUUUUCUGAGUCACCUCGGAGACUUUGGUUGAGGGAUUAUCUGACCCCUUAUUGUGACCCUUGGCAGCCCUAACUUAGACUUAGGCUUUUCUUGCUUUUUAGGAUAGCUUUUAGAUACACUUGGCCCAUUAGGCACCACCUUAGGCCCACUUAGGUCACCUUUUAAGUAAUUUUUUGCAUGUUUGCAUGAUUGCAUUUUUUUGUAUGACUUGCAUGGCUUGUGGGGCCCGAUUUUUGUUAAUUUGUUUAUUUUUAUUUAUUUAUUUUACUUUAUUUUUUAUUUUUUAUUUUUUAUUUUUUUUUUACUAUCAUUCACUUUUUAUUGGUUAUCUUCCUCUUUAUAUUAUUUUCCUUAACUUAUUUAUUUAUUUAUUAUUUUUACCAUUUUCUAAUUUAUUUACUUAUUUAUCUAUUCAUUCAAUUAUUUAACUUAAAAAAUUUCAUGCUUUUGCAAGGAAACUUACCAUUGGAGUUUAAGGAAAGUGGGACUCUCCAUCGAAGGUUUUUGGAGGGGAAUUUGAAAUUGGGAAGAUUGCUUUUGAAUUGGAAGAUUUAAAAAAAAAGGAAAAGGUGAAAAGAAGAAAGAAAAUAAGAGAAUUUGUCUUUUUUAGAGAGAUUUAGGUUUUAGGGGGGUAAUAUAUAUAUAUAUGUGAGAAAAGGAAAAGAAGAGGACACGUAUUGGAGUCACGGUAGGGAGAGGAAUAAAGAUAGCAAAAAAAGGAUUUUUUCUUUUGAGGAGUACGCUGAAGAAGAGGAAGGAGAUGGGUGAUUCAUUACUCUGCAGCUGCCUAAAGGUUAUAGUGUUUUCAUGUUUCACUUUUAUUGAUUUUUCGUCAAGAUCAGUUUGGUACUGCUUUAGUCUCUCUAUAUCCUUGCUUCCCAUAGAGAUGUGGAUGCUUGCUAAUCAGGUAUGCCCUUUCUACCCCACAACCCUAAAAUUCUAUGAAUGUGUAUGUUCUCAUGAGACAUGACCAUGUUUGAUGCCAUAAUUGAUUGCCUUGAUGCUUGAUUGAUAAUCUUUGAUGAAAAUACAUACCAUGUAUCAUAUUUCCAAACUAAUCUCUUAUGUUUCAUGAUAGCGCUUGAGAAGCGGUUUCGGUACGCACCCUAACUUUCCUUUAUUGUGAUUUGAUCUUGUUUAGCAAGCUAUUUUUUGAAAUCACCUUAGUCUAUCUAGGUACUCUCAAUUAAUCAAUUAAUUGCCCCACUUCCCUCAACUUAGUCAGUAGAGACCUCUUUGGGGCUUAGAGGGGUGCUACCUCCUAGAGGUACCUUCCCAAUAAGCAACCUGAUCCCCAGACCUAGACUCGGGUUUCUCAAAGACAUGCUUUUUCCAAAACUAUGGAGUCACUUUUUAGGGUUUCUCUUUCUUGUUUUAUUUUCCCUUCAAAAUAAAAAUAAAAUAGGUGGUGAUUCCAACUUUUCUAAAAUUAAUUUUUCACAAAUAAAAAACUAGUCUCGCCGAUCGAGUGGGGACACACGUGAAAAAUGCGGGUCCGCAAAUAUCACUUUCGAAGUUACUAGAGCUAAGGAGGUAAUUGAAGAAACUAUUGGAUGCAUGCAUGAUCCAAUCUUUAAGGGUUUGUUUUGGUGCUCCUAUCUUAUUCCAAAUAGAUGUGUGUUAACUAUUGGGCCUUGAACAAAGUAACGAUCAAGAAUAAGUAUCCAAUCUCCUUAGUGGAAGAAUUAUUUAAUAAACUGGCCAAGGCAAAGUUUUUCUCCAAAUUCGACUAACGGUUAGGAUACUAGCAAGUAAGGAUUGUAAAGGGGGACAAAAAAAAAAAAAAGACUAUAUGUGUAACUCACUAUGGACCAUAUGAGUUCCUCAUGAUGCCAUUUAGACUAACUAAUGCCUCAAUAACAUUCUACAACCUAAUGAAUGAUUGCCAUACAAGUUCUUAUAUGCCUUUGUUGUGGUUUACUUUAAUGCAUUGUUGUCUAAAGCAAGACCUUAGAAGAGCCUGUGAAUCACUUGAGAUUAGUGUUUCAAAGACUAAGAGAACAUGAACUCUACUUGAAGAUGGAGAAGUGUGAGUUCGCACAAAGUCAUAUUACCUAUCUAGGACAUUAGAUAGAGGAAGGGUUUAUCAAGAUGGAUGUUUAGACCAUUAAAGAUUGGCAUGCUCUAAGCAAGAUGACACUACCUGACUAUUAUUGAAUGUACAUAAGGGGCUACUUCAAGAUAGUGGCUCCCCUUGCUAACCUUCUAAAGAAGGAUAUUUGCUAGGAUUGGAGGUUUGAAUGCUAGAAAGAUUUUGAGAAGUUGAAAGUAGUGAUUUGAGUCAAGUUGGUGUUGCAAUUACUAGAUUUGGAUCUCCUAUUUGAGGCUCAAAUAGAUGCAUCAGCUAGGGCCUUAGGAAGGAUCUUGGUGCAGGAAGGGCACCCAAUAGCCUUUGAGAGUUGAAAACUUAAUGAGUUAGAACAAAGAUACUCCAUUCACGAGAAAGAGAUGACAAUGAUUAUCCAUUGCUUAUAGUAGUGGAAGCAUUAUCUGUUGGGGAGUAUAUUUACUAUAUAUGGUCACAGGCAACAUAGUUAAUACAUUUUUCAAGAUGCAAAAGGAGUUGAGCCCUAAGCAAUCUAGGUGGCAAGAAUUCCUAGCCGACUUCAAGUUUAAAUGGUUGUAUUGACCAAGAAGACAUACUGUAGUUGUAGAUGCCUUAAACCAGAAGGAAUUGACAGAGUAUGUGAUCCCUCUAUCACAUGUGAUCUCAUAUUUUAAUGAAAAGAUCAAGCAAGCUGCUAAGCUUGAUUCUACUUAUGAGAAGAUGAAUCAACAAGUCAAAGAGGGGGCUAUUAAAAAGUAUUGGCUAGAAGAUGACCUCUUGGUGGCUAAAAGAGGUAGGCUAUGUGUACCAAGAAGUUGCUUACAUAAGGAGUUACUAAGAGAGACCUAUGAUGUCGAGUAGCCAGGUCACCUUGGCAAAGAGAUGACAUCAAUAGUAUUGUCCAACUACUAUUACUAGCUAAAAAUAAGAGAGGACAUCUAGGCUUAUGUUCUAUAUUGUUUGAUAUGUCAAUUGGAUAAGACAGGCAAGAAGAAAGCUAUAAGGUUACUACAACCUUUCCCUAUCCUAAAGAGACCUUAGGAGAACAUAUUUGUGGACUUCAUCGGUGGCUUUCCAAAAGUGAGGGAAUUUAAGUAUAUCUUCAUGAUAGUAGAUAGACUCUUUAAGUAUGUUGCUUUCAUACUUACACCACAUGCAUGUCCCGUAAAGGAGGUUGUUAGGCUAUUCCUCAACCAUGUGGUCAAGUACUUCAAGUUGCCUAAAGACAUAGUCAGUGAUUUUGAUGCUUGAUUCAUUGGUUAGUGUUGGAUUGAGUUGUUUAAACUCCUAGGAUUGAAGUUGAAGUUCUAAACAACAAAUGAUUCAUAGAUAGAUGGGCAAACAAAGUGUAUCAAAUGUGCCACUUAAGGAAUACCUCAGACACUAUGUUUUUGCAACACAAAAGAACUAGAUUGAUUUAGUGGAGAUAGCUCAGUUAUCCUAUAACUUACAUAAGAGUUCAAUAAUAGGGUUGAGUCCCUUUGAAUUGGCUAACAAGUGUUAGGGUUCCCAACAAAUACCCCCUUAGAGGUUAGGGUUUCUAAGGUUUUUCAGUUGUCUUCCUAAUCUAGAGAGCGUAAGAGAAAGAGCUUAGGAAUCAUCCCUUCUAAAGCCCACUCUUUGGAGUUCUAAGAUCGUAGUUCGAGUCAUCAAGUGUAAGAUCUUGGAUGUACAAGACCUCCAAACUCUUCAAGUUUAUUUUUUACCCAUGAAAUUGAUUUGGGGACAUCCAGAUCUAGACAUGAAUGUUUCUUCUCUAGUUUUAUUAAUCUAAAUCAUUUUAAAAGUCAUAUUUCAAUUCAAAUUAGUUUCUACAAAAGCCUAGGGUAGAUUUACAUGUACCUAUACAAUCCAAGGUAUGGGAAUGGAAUGAUCCAAGGUUCUCAACAUACACACUAUCUUACUCCCAUGAGAUAUCAUGGUGCUUUUAUUAAGAAUACUUGUUGCUAGCUUUCCCAUAUGGAUAUAUGACCACAUUAGGGUCUCACCUAUAAAUCAAAGUUUCUUAUUGAUUUUGGUAUAAAUUCAAUAUAUUCUCAAGGUUGAGAAUCUAUGUAUUACAGUAGCUUAGUGAAUCAUGACAACUAAUAGCCUUAUGUCAUGAUUCACUAUAGGUCUUGUCCUAUAUGUAACCAUACACACUAAUGUACUCAUCAUGGGAAACUCAUCUCAAUGGUCAUGAUAAGUCAUCUCUCCAAUUAGGAGGUGGUGCAUUGUAGUCUUUAUUGAAUUGCCCAAAUCUAUGAACCAAUUAUAAACAACUAAUCAUCUUGCAAGGAAUCCAUGACUUAUGUCCUUUAUGCAAUUCCUAGUACACUAAAGUCAUAUGCAAUGCAAGUGAAAUGACAUGUUUAUUUAGGUAACCAAUCAGUACAUAAUGGGAUAGUAAGUUGAGCAAUAAACAUAAAUAAAUAAAUUUAUUAAUGAAUCUACAACUAUUAUAUCAUGUCAUGCUUUCCAAGGCACUAUCCCAAUAGGUUGGAUUAGGUGACUCAAGUUCAGUUUAAGCUUAAGUCACUUAAACCCAUAAGAAGCCCUAUAUAAACACUCUAAGAGGUUUAGGGUUCACGAUUUUAACAUUUUGGCCACCAUCUUCCUAAAAGAGAGUAAGAGCAAGCCUUAACCACUCUUAGGAGAGGAAGAGAAGCUCACCCUUAUCUUAUGCCAUGAUCCUUGAAAUGAGAGAUCGAGUAAAAGAUCUUUGGGUAGAUGAACUCCACCACAUCCCCAACAUCUUCUUUGACAUCUUCUUGGGAUUAGAUUCGAUUUUGGAACAUCCAAAUUGUAGGUAUGAAACUUUAACCUCUACAUCUAGAUCAUAAUGUGGUUUUAGUUACCAUAUAUUUUUACUAUGUUAGAUACAAAGCCUAUGAACUAAGUAACUAGUGGUUCCCAACAGUUUAUAGUUAUAAAAUGAUGAAAACUAAUGUCUUUUCACCAACUAAACCUCAUAAAGCAUUAAAAUCAUUAGUUUCAUUGCAAAUUCAAGUUAAAGAUUAAAAUGCACCAAGUAUGAGUCUCACCCACAAAAUGAUCCCUAAUGCUCAUUAAUAUAUAUAUUAAAAGUCAAAAGGAUAAUGAAGAUGAUGACAAACCAAUAAUCAAAGCAAACUUUUGAUAAUGAAGAAAUAUGUUAUGUUCAGUGUCAAAAUAAAAUCAACACUAAAUUUUCUAAUAAAAGAAUUUGAUAGUAGGUUGUGACUACAACCUAGAUAUCAAUUCCAUAUUGAUACAAAAACAGAGCUUAAGGCAAUUUGAAAAACAAGCAUAAAAUCGAUGGUUUUGGAAUUGAUAAUAAAAUCAAUAAACCAACUCAACUUGAUACUCCUUGACAACAUGGAACCAAUGUCAAUCCCAAUAUGAUAACAAGAUCUAUACAACAUGAAAAACUGACAAAGCAAAAUUUACCAGACUUGGUAUCAAAUCAAAAUCAACAUGUAUUUCAAUAAAUUAUAUAUAUAUAAAUCAAUACAACACUAACAAUGGUAAUGUUAUUAUUUGGGAUAAACUAAUAUACAAAUAAUAAAGGCUCUGAGGUAUCAAAAUAUCAUUAAUGAGUACAAAAUCUAAUUCAACCAAUUUCAGGCAUUCUCAUGUGAAUUUACAAGUAUAAAAUAAUGAAAACUAAUGCAUUUUCACAAGCUAAACCUCAUAAAAGCAUUGAAACCAUUAGUUUCAUUGUAAUUUCAAACUAAAUAUCAAAAUGCACCAAAUAUGAGUCUCUCACGCAAAAUGAUUCCUAAUGCUCAUUAAUCUGAUUUUUUUUUUUUUCAUAUAAGACAAAAACAAAAACAAUUCAACAAUUUUUAUAGGGCUAAUUUUUUUUAAAAUGAUAUAGAAUAAUACAAAAGAAAAUAGAAAGGAGAGGAUAAUAUAUUGAAUGAAAGCUUGAAGUGCAGUUGGGGAGGCUUCAAGACUUGUUCAUAGCUUUGAUCUUCCUUUUUGAUCUCCAAUUUGACAAAGUUUCUUCUGCUUUUAUUUCCAUAGAAUUGUCUCCUUUGAAAAUGUAGCUCCCUCUUUGAAUUUAUUGCCUUGAGGAUGAUGAGGAUGAGGAGGAUGAUGAUAAACCAAUAAUCAAAGUUAACUUUUAAUAAUGAAAAAAUAUACUAGGUUCAAUGUCAAAAUCAAAUCAACACCAAAUUCUCUAAUAAAGGAAUUUGAUAAUAAGUUGUGACUCCAAACCAAAUAUAAAUUUCAUUUUGAUACAAAAACUGAGGCUAGACUAAUUCGAUAAACAAACAUAAAAUAGGUGGUUCGGGAAUUGAUUUGAAAUUAAUACUUGAGUAAAUACAACUACCCAAAUUGAUACUCCUCUACAACAUAGAACCAAUGUCAAUCCCAAUAUGAUAACAAGAUCUAUGCACCAUGAAAAAUCAACAGAACAACAAUUACCAUAGACUUGCAUUGAAUCUAAAUUAACAUUGAUUUCAAUGAAGUAUUAAAAAAUCAAUACAAUACAAACAAUGGCAACAUUAUUCUUUGGGAUGCAUGGAUACAAAAACAAUUAAGACUUUGAGGUAUCAAAAUGUUAUUAAUGCUUCAAUAAAAAAUCUAAUUCAACAAGUUUUUUUUUUAUUUCCAUUUGAAUUUACAAGUAUAAAAUGAUGGAAACUAAUGCAUUUUCAAUAGCUAAAACUCACAAAAGCAUUAUGUAGAACCUUCCUUUUUGUCCUGGUAACACAUGCUUUUAAUCGUAUUUAGUACCCCUCAUUUUUAGCAAUUUAAAUUGUUUAUAUAUAUAUAGAUUAUACGAAUGUUUUAACACUUAGAGAAAUUGGAAUGAAGCAAAAUAUGCAAAAAAAAAAAAAAAAAAAAAGAAAUAAUUGUCUAUAGUUAUCUUUAUUAUUUUUUAUACAUUUCUAUUGACAUGGUAUAAAUCAUCAAUAAUUGUUGUGAGUAAUAGCAUUGAGAAAAGUCAAUGUCCAUAAUAAUACUCUAUUGCCAUUUUUUAUUUUUUAUUUUUGUAAAAUAAUAAAUCAAAUCACAUCUUGUAACAUUAUCAUUAAGAUUUACAUGAUUUCUUACAAUGUAGCUUAAAACCAAAUAUUUCAUCAAAGAAGUUAUCAAUAAUUAGCCCCACACAAUGAUAUCUAUUAUAAUACAGACUUCCUUCAAUAUGUGUGUUUGUGAGUGUAAAGAAAAUAACAAAGAUAAGAAAGUAAGGUAAUAGAAAUUGAGAAAGUAAGAGAAAUAUUUUUUUUUUGUUUUAUUUUUCUCUCUCUAUUUAUUAUGCUAUUUAUAGAGUAAUAUAUAUAGUAAACCUAACUAAAAAAUUCUUUAACAAUAAUAGAAGAAAACCAAUGAGUAUAUGACACGUGUACAUCUUGUAACCAUAUGAAACUAUCUCUUAACAUUCUUCCUUGAACUUAAGGUAGAAAGAUUUUCUACUUUGAGUUUGUUUCUUAGAUUUACAAAGUGAGUGCUUGAGACAACUUUUGUUAAGACAUCUGCUACUUGAUCAAUGGAAGGCACUUGUUGGACUAAAACCUUUCUUUGCAAAACCUUUUCCUUGACAAAAUGUAAAUCCAAUUCAAUGUGUUUGUCCUAGCAAGUAAUAUUGGAUUAGCAACCAACAUAAUAGUGCUAAGAUUAUCACACCAAAUAACUAGUGGUGUCGGCAAAGUGAUUUUAAGUUUUGAGAGAAGAUAUUGUAACCAAGUGAUUUUUGCAACGAAACUAGUUAGGUUUCUAUACUCUACUCUUGUACUUGAUCUAAAAAUAGUAUGUUGUUUCUUUGACUGCUAAGUGACUACAUUUAAACCAAAGUAUACACAAAAUCCUAAAGUUGAUCUUCAAUCAUGAGGAUCAAAGGCCCAAUCGACAUCACAAAAUGCUAUAAGAUCAAGAGUAGGAGACUUUCUUAAAUGGAAUUUCAAGUAUCUAAGAAUUCUUUUGACUACUGUUUAAUGAGAUUCUAAGGGAGCUUGCAUAUAUUGACACUUUAUUAAUACUAUAGGUAAUUUCAAGCCUAUUAACUAUUCCUUAUUGUAAAGGUCUUACAAUUGAUCUAUAUAACUUCACAUCCUAAACUGAUUCACUUCCAUAGCUUAAAAGUUUCUAUUCAUUGGUCAUAGGAGUAGAAAUAGGAUUGGAACCUUGCAUUUUGAAUUUUCAUAAUAGAUCAGUUAAGUAUUUUCCUUGAGAGAGGUGAAUGCCUUCAACAAUAUGCUUUACUUCAAUCCCUAAAAAAUAAUUGACUUCUCCAAGAUCUUUUAAGGUAUACUCUCUAUUUAAUUGGUAAUGAGAUAAAUCAUAACUUUUUCACUACUACCAGUGAUAAGAAUAUCAUCUACAUAUACAAGAAUAUAGGUAGAAUGAAUAGAGAUUGAUCUAACUUUGUAGAGAUAAAUCCAAAAGGAAUAUAGGGUUGCACUUAACUUUUCAAGCCAAGCACUUGGUGCUUGUUUGAAGUCAUAUAAAGUUUUAUGUAAUUUGUGAACAAGAUGAGACUAGUUGUGCUGAAUAAAACCAGGAGAUUGUUGCAUAAAAACUUCCUCAUGUUAUUAAUGUCUAAUUGAUGAAUUAACCAACCUCUAGACAAAGUUAUAGUAAGCAUAACCCAAAUAGUGGCAUGUUUAACAACUGGAUUGAACGUUUCAGUGAAAUCAAAACCAGAUACUUAAUGAAACUCUUUAGCCACUAACUUGGCUUUGUACUUCUAAAUUGAGCCAUUGGGGUUUUCUUUCACUUUAAAUACCCAUUUGCAGCCAAUAGGUGUUCUUCCAGGUGGUAAUGAGACUAAGGAUCAUGUAUUAUUCUUCAAAAAAGCCAUCAAUUCAUCAGUCAUUGCUUGUUUCCAAUGAUGUAUAUGUAAAUCUUCCUUAACACAAGUAGGUUCACAUGUGGCAGCAAAAAGCUUUGGUUUAAAAAAUUCCAGUUUUAGAUCGAGUGACCAUAGAAUGAGUAUUUUUGCAAGGUUGCAUUGGAACAAAAGCUAAAUCUUCUUGUGUUUGGUCUUGUGAAAGAGCUCUAUGACCAACAACACUGUCAUAAGUAUUAGUAGCAAGAGGAGAGGUAGUGGGUACUAAAACAUUAGUAACAGAUUGGACAAUUUCUAGAUGAGUAAACCUACCAAAAAAAGAAAUUAUUAGAGAAGCAACAGAAAGAUGAAAAAAGGGUGAAACAUAAUUAGAUAAGGAUGAUUGAAUUUUAUGAGCAAAAGAAAAUGAAGACUCACAGAAAAUGACAUCUCGAGAAAUAAUAAAUUUGCCAUUAAAAUCAAGACAUUUAUAGCCUUGAUGAUUGAGACUAUAACCUAGAAAAGUACAUUCAACGAAUUGGAACUGAAGCUUGUGUUUGUUAUAUGAAUGAAUGUUAUGAAAAUAGGAGCAACCAAAUAUUUUUAAGAAAAAGUAAUCUGGUAAGGUUUUGAACAAAACUUCUAGAGGAGUUUUAUGAUGAAAAACAAAAGUUAGUAAAUUUAUUGUUGAGAUAAACAUAAGCUUUAAAGGCUUCAUCCCAAUAUUCCAUUGGCAUUAAAGCAGAUGCUAACAAGGUGAGACCAUGUUCUACAAUGGUUUUAUGCCUCCUUUCAGGCCAACCAUUUUGUUCAUGAGUAUAAAGACAAGAAUAUCUAUAAAAAAUGCCAUUUAAAGUUAAAAAAUUUGUGAAAGCUCUAUAUUCUCCACCCUAAUUUGUUUGUAUGGUGUUCAUUUUAAAUCCUAGUUGUAAUUCACCUUGAGUUUUGAAAUUAAGAAAGGCUUGAAAUGCAUCUAAUUUAUAUCUAAGCAAGUAGAUCCAAGAAAAUCUUGAGUAAGCAUCAACAAAGUGAAUGUAGUAGUAAUAACCACUAGAAGAUUGAAGUAGAGAGGGACCCCAUAAAUCAGAGUGUAUAAGUUGUAGGGUUUGAGUGUAAACAAUGUCAGAAAAAUAAAAAAGAAGUUUGUGAAUCUUGCCAUAACAACAAGUUGAGCAAAAAGAAAAUUGCAUUUUAUUAGGAACAUAAAUAUUGCAAUUAAUUAGACAGAACAAACUUUAAAAUUUUAAAGAAUGGAUGUCCAAGUUUGUGAUGCCAUAGAUCAAAAGUAUUCAAAGAACCAGAAGAAUCCUUAGUUGCAGUACAAGAGUCAAGAUUAUCUUGAAAGGGGCUAGAAACAUGAUUCUGAAAUAAAGAGGUGGAAAACUCGCAAAAGGUUGUAAAAGAUGGAACUGAUAGUGGCUUUGAUGAAGACAAUAGUGUGAAAUCAUCAAAUACGUAAAGUUCAUUCUUAACUCUCCUUGCCAUGAAAAUUUCCUUGGAAGCUUGAUCUUUGACAUAACAGAAAUUAGGAAAGAACUCAAAAUACAUAGCAUUAUCUUUGGCAAAUUUAGAGACAUUGAGCAAAUUUUUGGUAAUAGAUGGAACAUGAAGAAGAUGAUUUAAAGAGAGCAAUUUCAAAGUAAAUUGAGAUUGAAAAGAUGAUUGUCCAAUAUGUUUAAUGUUCAACCCUGUUCCAUUACCCAUCAUGAUCUUAUCUUACCCAACAAAUUUAGUUUUAUUCAUCAUAUUAUUAAUGUCUAGUGUGAUAUGAUUUGUAGCUCCUGAAUUUGGGUAGGCAAAUUCAAGAGUAGUAGCAACCAUGGCAAUCAUUUGUGAUGAAUCUUGAGUAGAAGGAAAUUCAUGCUAAAAUGAAGAUGGAUCAAAUCUAUAGUAACAUGGUUACACCAAAUGACCAACACGACCACAAAAUUGGCAUUGAGGUUUAUUGAAAUUCCAAUAAUUUUGACCACCAUUGAAGCCUCCAUGACCUUUGCUACUAGGACCUCUAAAUUUAUUGAAUCCACGACUACCAAAACCUCCUUUACUAUGAAAGUUAUUGAAAACACAAAAAUCGCCCUGAACAAAAGUAGAAAAGCCAUUUUCAGAAGAAUUGUAAGACCUUUUCUUGUCUUUGUUAUUCUCACUCUGAGUUGCUAAGUUAGCAUUCAAAUUAGAAUCUAAAACUUUUAUAGCCUUCUCAAUGUGCCUUUCUUGAGCCAAAAGAACAAACUUUAUUUCAUCAACAGUAUAUGAAUCCAUGUGUGUGGUAACAACAGUAAUCAAUGUGUCAUACUUGAGGGUAAUCCUUCAAAAAUUGUGUCAAUAUGAUCCAAAGUAGAUAUAGAAUAAUUAACCAAUAAUAUGCUAUCAACAAUGAUUUUGAUUUGCAAGUGAUAAUCAUUCAUGGAUGAUGAACCUUUCUAAGAGCUCUUGAUUUGCAUCUUGAACUUAUCAGUCUUAGUAUGAGUUUUAGUAGCAAAGAAAAUCUCCAAUUUCUCCCAAAUCUGAAAAGAAGUUACACAUCCAACCAUUCUUGUUAAAAGCCCUUUGGACAUUAAUGAAUGAAACCAAGAGAUUAGUAAUUAGUUCUGUUGUUCCCAAUUAGAGAAAUCUCAAUUGAUUUUACCACUUGUUUCAUUAAUGGAAGAAAGAAAUUUUGGAGGAGUGGUAUCGGUUCUAUUGAUGAACUUUGAGAGCUUGUAACCCUUGAUUGCAACUUCAACUUGUUGACGCCAAAUCAAAAAAUUAUUAUGAUAAAGUUUUAUGGCAAUUGAGUGAUUGAAGGAAAUCAGAACAAAUUGGGAUAGGAACGAAAAAGUAGGGGUGAGGGAAUCGGCCAUGGAUGAGACCUCCGAUACCACGUAAAGAAAGUAAUAGAGAUAAGAAAGUUAGGUAACAGAAAUUGAGAAAAAUCUUUUCUCAUUUUCUAUUUUAUUUUUCUAUUUCUAUUUAUUUUGCUAUUUACAGAGUAAUAUAUAUAGUAAACCUAACUAACAAAUUCUCUAGCAAUUCAUCUAACAAUAAUAGAAGAAAAUCAACGAGCAUAUGACACAUGUACAUCUUGUAAUCAUAUGAAAUUAUCUCUUAACAAUGAGUAAAAAACAAAGUUCUUGGUUUAUAUUCAACAUAAAUGUUAUAAAGGUAUUGCUAAUGGCAAGUAAUAACAAAAAAUCUCAAUACUAAAGUUUUUAGCAUGCUAACAUUUAUUUUUUCUGUUAUAACAACUAUAUUAGUAUAGAAUAUUCUCGAUAUAGUUUGUUAGAAUAAGUUUUGAGCUAUACAACCUCGUUUAGCAAUGUAAGGAAAAACACUUUCCUAUAUAUUUUUUGUACUUUCAAACUAUCAAUUAAAUUCAAUGAAAUGAGAAUGUGUUUUCUCUUUUCUAUUCUCUUCUUAUAAUAUGGUAUCAAAACAUUUUCCUUUUGUUGUUCUUCCAUCUUCUUGCUAAAAUGACCCAUGGUGGUCAAAAUAACAACACCAACUUAUUCAAGUCAUUGAUACCUCCUUCUUCCACUAGUACCAUGGCUUAACAUGAUUCUUCUUCUUCCAUGAAUAACACUAAUGGUCCUUUUUUCUUGCACAGUUGUGACCAUCCCGAAUUGGUUCUUGUUUUUCAUUUCCUUACUACUCUUAACUAAAAUUGUUGGAGUCAAGCCAUGGCCAUGGCUCUCAACACCAAGCAUAAACUCGUUUUUGUCAAUGGAUUGAUUCCACAACCACCUUCAGAGAAUCCUGUUGCUAAGGUUUGGUUAAGAUGUAAUAGUAUGGUCACUUAUUGGCUUCUCAAUGUCGUUUCCAAAGAGAUUAUUGAUAAUUUCCUCUACCUUGAUAGUGCUCAAGAUAUUUGGGCAGAUCUAUGAUCCAUGCCCAGUCGAGUGUUUAUCAAAACAUUUAUAAAACCUACAACACCUUAUAUUAGGAUAGCAAAGACAAAGCUACUAUAGUAUAAUGACUCUAGGAUUGUUGAUUCCUGCCCAGUCGGUGUCUCAACUAAUUCGUGUCCAGUUGGUAUCCUUGAUUGCGGGAGUAAUCAACAAAAUUUAUAACCUAUUACACCAUGAACUAGGGUAGCAAAGACAAAGCUAUUGAUUACUACCCAAAAAGUGUUAUUUUGCACCUUUAAUUCAUUAUGUUUUAAGCACUUUUGUGUAGUAGUUCUCCAUUUUUAUUCAAAUUGGCAUGUUAAGGACCUAGCAAUGACUUCUAAUCAUAUUUGUGGCUAUUUUUAGUGUUUUGACAGCUUUUUGGAUCAUUAAGACAAGCCAAGUAAAAGAGAGAAGCAAAGAGGAAAACAGAGUGAAGAAAACAGAGGACAGCAGCUGCAGUCUUCCUUCGCACUUUUGGAGCACUUCCCGAAGUCCAUUUGCUACAUGCUAUAUACCAUUUCAAAUCUCAGGAAGUCAAGAAUCUAACAAUUCAAACUGUGUAUGAUUUGGAGCUGAAAUGAGGAACAUAUGGCCUUCGAAAGACAACUGCACCAAGCAUGUGCAAACUUUGCACAACAGCCCAAGCUUGUGCAAAAUUCGCACAACACCUUUCCCUUGUGCGAAAUUCGCACCAGCCCAUGCAUGGUGCGAAAUCUCCUCUGUUCUGCUGACUCCACACGAGAUCUUUUCUUUUAGAUAUUUUUGUAUAAAUUUCCAUUCUUCUCCUUGUAAUCCACCAACCAUAAGAUUUCUUAGCUAGGAAGGUUGGAAAAACUUCUCUAUAUAUAUUCCCUUGCAUCCAUUGUAAUAGAUAUAGAAGUAUGUAAUAUAGAUAUAUAAAUAUAAAGAAUAUACAGAGCCUUGCUCUGUUUUUCCUUCUCUUUUAUUUUUCUUUUUCUUGAAAGCCAAACAACCUCUGAGGAUGUUUUCCCAGAGGAUGAGAGGCUAAACUUUUGGUUUCUUGGAGUGAAGGAAGCUAGGUGAAAAGUCCAGAUGCAAAGGUGAAAACUCUCGUGCAUUAAAUACAGGUAGUUGGAGUUCAUAAAUGGCUUUUAAAUCUAAAGUUUUGCUUUAAAUCCCUUAGAAUAACUUUGAAUGGCCAAUACAUGGUAAGCUUUAGGUCUUUGUGGAUACUUAUUACUAGAUCCACACCAGUCCAUUAGUUAUCAUGUACGAGCCAUUGGAAAGUGGCUCAAGGUGAAGACCCAUAGUGUCUAAAGCCAUUAAUGGAACCUGACUACCAUUUCUAUUGACUUUUUAUGGAUUAAAUCUUCAUGGUUAAACCUAUACCGGUUCGGGAAACAACCAUCUUUUAUGUUGUUGUCCCCAAUGCGAGAAGAAGAAUCCGAAAUUUCCACUUUGCAUUCUGAACUUGAUCCUAGCAACCUUAGCUCCGGGAGACUUUCUUUCUUCCAUUUUUACCUAGUUUUAUGUUAGUUUAGUUUAAAACACCACUUUCAAAACAAAUAUUAUUUUCUUUUAAACUUAAAGUUUUUGACAAAGGAAAUCAUCAGAUUCAAUCUCUAAUCUUGAGUCUAUCACUGGUAGAGUGAAAACCCAUCCCAGAGUUCGACCCUAGAGCUGCUAUACUAUAGUAGCUUUGCUACGCUAGUAUGAGGUCAUAGGAUUUAUAAAUUUUUUUUAUUAAAAGACCCGACUGGGCACGAAUCAAAAUGGUGUCGUUGCCGGGGAUGGUGCCACUUUACAGUGAUAUGACCUUUUCAGAGUACUUGUGAUCUUCAUCACAAGUUUGGUGACUUUUCUUUUCCUUUUACUAACUUUUUUUAUUUGUUUAUUUUCCUUUGUUCAUGUUUUAGUAUAUCUUUUAUUUAGUUUUUAGUUAAUCUUAACAAUUUUCUUUAGAAUUUUAUUUUCUUUUAUUUUCUUUUGUUUUCUCUGUUUUUAAUUCACAAAUUGCUAGUUGUGCAUGCCAUUUCUAAAACACUAGUGCAAGCUAUGUUGUGUUCCAUUUGUCAAUCUUUUGAGCACUUGGUGGAGGAGUGUCCUAUCCUUCCAGCAGCGAGGGAGAUGUUUGGUAUGCCAUGUAGCAUUUGUCAGUCUUUUGAGCACCUGGUAGAGGAGUGUCCUAUCAUUCCAGUGGUGAGAGAGAUAUUUGGUGAUUAUAACACCUACAAUUCAAAUUGUAGGAAUCAUCCAAAUUUCUUUUGGGAACCACAACCACGUCAGUACAUGCAACCCACUCAAGCACCACAGCAAGCCUCAAACCUUGAACAAGCUAUGAUGAAUCUUAACAAGGUCAUGGAAGACUUUGUUGAAGCUCAGAAAUCCAUCAAUGCUCAGCUCAGUCAAAGAAUAUCACUCCCUGAUAGAGUAGAGAGUUCAUUGAAUAAAAAGAUGGAUGGAGUGCAACAUGAUCUAUCUCAAAAGAUAGAUAAUCUCCAAGAUUCAAUCUCAAGGUUUGCCAACCUCAACACAAUGCAAGAAAAAGAAAACUCUCCUUCUCAACCUUAUCAAAAUUCCAAGGGUAUCCAUGAAGUGGAGGCUCAAAAGGGAGAAUCUUCAAUGGUGAAGGAAGUUAAAAUGGUUAUCACUUUGAGUGCUAAAGAGGUUGAUUUGGCCACAUCCAAACAAGAGCAUGAAAUAGAGAAUGAAAUAGAGAAAAAGAAGAGGGAGGAAAUUAAAGGAAAGAGAAAGGGAAUUGUUUCCAUUGCCAUCAUACAAUGCAAAUCUCUAAUGAAGGAUGCAAACUUCAUAUGGGAUCCGGGCAAGCUGAACCAGGAUCAAAUUUUUUUAUGGACUUAGUUUUUUUAAAGACUAGCUAGUCCAUAUCUUUUUGUUUUAUUUUUAAAUUUGUUUUGAUUUUGAUUUCUUGCUUUAAUUUUAUUUUGGUUUGAUUUAACUUGUUUUUUUUUUAUGAUCAACAUAGGGGAAGCCAAAAAUAGAGGAAAAUAGAGCAAUUUGCACCACCCAAUUCUCUGGUGCGAAAUUCGCACCACCCUACCCCCUUGUGCGAAAUUGCCUUUGUGAGCGUUUUCCAAAAAGCAUGCUCUCAGUCCCUACCCAAAAUCUCAGUGCAAAAAUCACAGGAAUGCGAACAUUGUGUGAAAUUCCCACCGCCAUCUCCACAUGUGCGAAAUUCGCACAACACUACUCCACCUGUGCAAAAUUCGUACCACCCCAUUUCGGCAACUGUUGGGCACAUUUAGAUCACUUCCCAAAUUUCAUUUCAUGCGUACUAUAUCUCGUUUCAAAGCUUGGGAAGUCAGGAGUCCAUAGCUUCAAACGGUGCUCGAUUUGGAGUUGAAACGAAGAAGUUAUGGCCAUUUGAAGACGACUGUGCAAAGCUGAACGGAAAUGUUGCAGCCGCACCCCAUUUCGCUACUGUUGGACACGUUUUUUGGAGCACUUUCUGGAGAUAAAAUUAUGCAUACCAUAUGUCGUUUUUAAGCUUAGGAAGUCAGGAGUCCAGUGCUUCAAACGGUGUGCGAUUUAGAUUUGAAACGAAGAAGUUAUGGCCAUUUGAAACCACCACAAUUUCGCAUUUGGACGGGUGAAUAGUGCCUUGUGCGAAAUUCGCACAACCCAUUCCCUUGUGCUAAUUUUUGAGAUUCUUCAUCCCUACCCUUCCCAAUCCCAAGCCUUUGAGCCUCAUUUCUUUGCUCCAUUAUGCCUAAGACCCGAGGAGGCUAUGCCUCAGCUCCCCAGAGGCAGCAUCGUCUGAUGCCCCACCUACUGUCCCUCCUUACCAACAGAGCCCCGCGCACCCUGGGAUCACACACAUGAAGCCUCUUACUCCAUUUCUGACCUCCUUAAACCAUCAAAGCCCAUAGCUCCAGCUGAGAGCUCCAGUUGAGGAGACUAUGCCAUCCAAGGAGAAUAUCAAAACAGAGGCCAAAGUCCUGAUCCAACCCACUCAGAAGGCCACCACAGAUGCAUCAGCUCCAUAGGACCUUACCAUUAUUUGAUCAUCUCUUUACUUUUUGUCUUUACAUAUUAUAUUAGUAUAUAUAAUUCCAUGUUUUGAUGUUUUAUAUUCUGGGAUUGGAUGUAUUGCAUGAUCAUAUAUUAUAUUCUAUUUUCUCAGAUUAAUAUAUAGGCAUCAUUUUUGUUUAAACUUGACAUUUUUCUAUUUUCUCUACUCACUAUUUUUUUUUAAACAUGUGGUUUCUCUUAUACAACUCAGACUCCAUGUCACUCAAGAGGUACCACUUCCUCCCUAUUUUUUAAUCGCUUUGUCACAUUGAGGACAAUGUUUAGCUUGGUUGGGGGGAGAGUUGAGGAAGGAAGUUUUUGUUAUUAAUGCUAAGUUAUUUUGGUAAUUUAGUUGCUUUUUGCUUAAUUUUAAAAAAUUUUUAAAGUUUUUUUUGAAUACUCUCCAUGGUUAUUAAGGAAAAAAUUUCAAAAUGAAAUGGGAGAAAUUAAAUUUUUGUCUUUUUACUUGAAACUUAGAGUUUGUAUUAUGUUUAUUAAAGUUGAUGAAUUAUUGAACUCCUAUUGAUUUCAACCUUAUUUCUUCCACUUUAAGCUUAUCACACACCAUGCACACUAGGUUCCGUUUAUAAGAUGAAAAACUAUUUUACCCCUUGACUUAGGAAAAUUUAGACUUGGUACCUUUGACCUCAUUUUAAUAGUGUUGAGACACCUUAUAAAAGGCCAAUGAGCCUUUGGAAAAAGAAAGAAAAAGAAAAAUGUUUUACUUGCCUUGAAACCCGAGCAAGGUCUGAGGGGUAUAUGGUGAAAAUCUUUAAAACCUGGUGCCCUAAGCCUUCAAUGGUUGGGAGUCACCGACCUCAAUGCUCGUUACAUGGGUGAAUAGGUGGAGUUUAACAUAUUGUAGGUGCUUGGGUAUUAAAAAUUCAUUCUCAAAAGUCCGAGGUGAAAUCCGAGGAGUUAGUGGUUGAAAAAUCCUUAAAGCUUGAUGCCCUAAACCUUGAUUGGUUGGGAGUCAUCGAUGGACCCCCGUUACAUGGACAAUUUAGAAAAGAAUGCCUUUAAGCUUUGCACUCCUACAGGAAAAAAAUUGUGAAAGAAAAGAGGUGUGUUCUUAGCCUAUUGGAGGUUGAUUAGUUUGCUAAGCUUUGAAAAGAACUAGGUUGAGGGGAGAGAUUAGUUUGACAUACUAUAUCCGGAAACUAAUAAAUAACACAUAGAUUUUUGUGGAAGAGUAGGGUUGGACCUUUAGGAGUGGAAAUUAUUUUGAAGCUUAAAUUUGCAUAAUGCCUACUCUUUAUGAAUUGUGACUAGGCAAAUUAUUUGAUAGCUCCUAUUGAAGUUUGAGUUUUAUUUCUUUCAUGUUCCAUGUGAGAGUUUGAUCCAAUCAUGCCACUUGAUUAUUUUUUGGAGUGAUCAACAUGAUUUUAUAAAUUAUUAUAUUAUCUAUUUUUCUUUCUUUCUUUUUCUCUCCUUCAUUGCUUAGGGACUAGCAAUGUGUCAGUUGGGGGGAGUGAUUACUACCCAAAAAGUGCUAUUUUGCGCCUUUAAUUCAUUAUGUUUUAAGCACUUUUGUGUAGUAGUUCUCCAUUUUUAUUCCAAUUGGCAUGUUAAGGACCUAGCAAUGACUUCUAAUCAUAUUUGUGGCUAGUUUUAGUGUUUUGACAGCUUUUUGGAUCAUUAAGACAAGCCAAGUAAAGGAGAGAAGCAAAGAGGAAAACAGAGUGGAGAAAACAGAGGAUAGCAGCUGCAGUCUUCCUUCGCACUUUUGGAGCACUUCUUGAAGUCUAUUUGCUACAUGCUAUAUACCAUUUCAAAGCUCAGGAAGUCAAGAAUCCAACUCUUCAAACCGUGUACGAUUUGGAGCUGAAAUGAGGAAGAUAUGGCCUUCGGAAGACAACUGCACCAAGCAUGUGCGAAUUUCGCACAACAGCCCAAGCUUGUGCGAAAUUCGUACAACACCUUCCCCUUGUGCAAAAUUCGCACCAGCCCAUGCGUGGUGCGAAAUCUCCUCUAUUCUGCCGACUCCACGUGAGAUCUUUUCUUUUAGAUAUUUUUGUAUAAAUUUCCAUUCUUCUCCUUGUAAUCCACCAACCAUAAGAUUUCUUAGCUAGGAAGGUUGGAAAAACUUCUCUAUAUAUAUUCCCUUGCAUCCAUUGUAAUAGAUAUAGAAGUAUGUAAUAUAGAUAUAUAAAUAUAUAGAAUAUACAGAGCCUUGCUUUUUUUUUCCUUCUCUUUUAUUUUUCUUUUUCUUGAAAGCCAAACAACCUCUGAGGAUGUUCUCCUAGAGGAUGAGAGGCUAAACUUUUGGUUUCUUGGAGUGAAGGAAGCUAGGUGAAAAGUCCAGAUGCAAAGGUGGAAAACUCUCGUGCAUUAAAUACAGGUAGUUGGAGUUCAUAAAUGGCUUUUAAAUCUAAAGUUUUGCUUUAAAUCCCUUAGAAUCACUUUGAAUGGCCAAUACAUGAUAAGCUUCAGGUCUCUGUGGAUACUUAUUGCUAGAUCCACAUCAGUCCAUUAGUUAUCAUGUACAAGCCAUUGGAAAGUGGCUCAAGGUGAAGACCCAUAGUGUCUAAAGCCAUUAAUGGAACAUGACUACCAUUUCUAUUGACUUUUUAUGGAUUAAAUCUUCAUUGUUAAACCUAUACCGGUUCGGGAAACAACCAUCUUUUAUGUUGUUGUCCCCAAUGCGAGAAGAAGAAUCCGAAAUUUCCACUUUGCAUUCUGAACUUGAUCCUAGCAACCUUAGCUUCGGGAGACUUUCUUUCUUCCAUUUUUACCUAGUUUUAUGUUAGUUUAUUUUCAAACACCACUUUGAAAACAAAUAUUAUUUUCUUUUAAACUUAAAGUUUUUGACAAAGGAAAUCAUCAGAUUCAAUCUCUAAUCUUGAGUCUAUCACUGGUAGAGUGAAAACCCAUCCUAGAGUUCGACCCUAGAGCUGCUAUACUAUAGUAGCUUUGCUACGCUAGUAUGAGGUCAUAGGAUUUAUAAAUGUUUUUUAUGAAAAGACCCGACUGGGCACGAAUCAGCUACUAUAGCAUUGUGGCUCUAGGAUCGUUCAUUGGGAUGGGUUUUCACUUCACAAUUGAUAUUAAUUCAAAACUGAAUUAGUGCCUUUUCAUUUCAAGGUUAGCUUUAAAAGAAAACAUAAAGAUUUUUGAAACUAAACUAACAUAGAACUAGGUAAAAAUGGAAGAAAGAAAGUCUCCCGGAGCUAAAGGUUGCUAGGAUCAAGUUCAGAAUGCAAAGUGGGAAAUUCCGGAUUGUUCUCCUCGCAUUGGGGACAACAACAUAAAGGAUGGUUGUUUCCCGAACCGGUAGAGGUUUAACAAUGAAGAUUUAAUCCAUAAAAAGUCAAUAGAAAUUAGUCAAGUUCCAUUAAUGGCUUUAGACAUUAUGGGUCUUCACCUUGAGUCACUUUCCAAUGGCUCGUAUAUGAUAACUAAUGAUCUGAUGUGGAUCUAGCAAUAAGUAUCCCCAUAGACCUAAAAGCUUACCAUUUAUUGGCCAUUCAAAGUGAUUCUAAGGGGUUUAAAGCAAAACUUUAGAUUUAAAAGCCAUUUAUAAACUCCAACUACCUGUAUUUAAAGCACGAGAAUUUUCCACUUUUUCAUCCGGACUUUUCACCUAGCUUCCCUUAGUCCAAGAAACCAAAGGUUUAGCCUCUCAUCCUCUGGGAAAACAUCCUUAGAGGUUGUUUGGCUAGUAAGAAAAUAUAAUCAAAAUGAGAAGGUAAAAGCAAAGCAAAGCUCUGUAUUUUUCUUCCUUUCAAAAUUGUACAAAGGAUUGAUCGAUAAUAUAUUCGAUAUCUUGUGUAAAGGAAAUUACAAACUAUAUAUAAGGGUUUAUUCACCCUUUUUCCAAACUUAAUAACUAAGGAAUCCUAUCAUUGGUGGGUUACAAGGAGACUUUGGGAAUUUAGACAUAAAAUGUCUAAAGCAAAAUAUCUUAAAAUAUCCCAAAAUAUUGGUGGCAAAUAUCAGGAAGCUUCAGGAGAACACAGCAGCACUGUGCAGAAUGGUUGCUCUCCCAUCCGGGUAGGCGGUUAUCAAAUGAUCCGGAUACGUCCAUCUGGAAAAGUUGAAACACCUACAUCUCCUAUCCGGCUCCUGAAUUCCAGAAGUGAACAUUCGGGGUGGAAAGUGCGCGGCAACCGGAUGCAAUGGCAGCAGCCGGGUGCAAACGGCGGCGCACAUCCGGGUGCAAAUGGUGGCGCACAUCCGGGUGCAACUCCUAUCUGGUGGUGUGGUCCGGACGCCCUCCAAUGGUGUAUCCGGACGCUCUGUCCAGGUAUACUCCUUGCAUGGAUUCCAAAGAAGUCUCCUCAAUCUCAUAUUGCUUUGGUGAUAAAAAAGCUAUCAAAACACCAAAACUUAACACAUUUUUUAUUAGAAUUGAUUGCAAGGGUCCUUAACAUGCCAAUUGAGUUAAAAGGUGAUAACUACUACUCAAAAGUGUUUAAAAGAGUUAAUUACCAGCUAUGAAAUAACACUUUUUGAUCCUAGUUCAGCUGGCCCGGAUCCCAUAUGAAGUUUGCAUCCCUCACUUGAGAUUUGCUUUGUAUGAUUUUGCCAUACAAAGCUUGGGGGAAAAGUGGAUGCAUGUGUUUCUUCCUUGAUGACUAUCCUUUUUGGUUUUUCUUUUAUACAAUCAUCUUUCUCUGUACUUUUCCCCUUUCUCUUUCCUUUUAUUUUCUCCCUCUUUUCUUUCUCUGUUUCACUCUCUUCUUUGUGGUCUAGCUUGCAUGCGGGUAGAUCAACCUCUUUAUCACUCUCCUUAGCCUCUAUUUCAAGGAUACCCUUUUGAUUUUGAUGAGGUUGAGAAGGAAAGUUUUCUUUCUCUUGCAUUGCGUUGAGGUUGGCAAACCUUGAGCUUGAGUAUUCGAAAUUGUCUGUCUUCUGAGACAGGUCAUUGAACCUCUCAUCCAUCCUAUCAAUUCUUUGACUGAGCUGAGCAUUGAUGGAUUUUUUAGCUUCAACAAAGUCUUCCAUGACCUUGUUAAGAUUCAUCAUAGCUUGUUCAAGGUUUGAGGCUUGCUGUGGUGCUUGAGCAGGUUGCUGAUACUGAGGUGGUUGUGGUUUCCAAGAGAAAUUUGGAUGAUUCCUACAAUUUGAAUUGUAGGUGUUAUAAUCACCAAAUAUCUCUUUCGCCACUGGAAUGAUAAGACACUCCUCCACCAAGUGCUCAAAAGAUUGACAAAUGGCACACGACAUAGCUUGCACUAGUGUUUUAGAAAUGGCAUGCACAACUAGCAAUUUGUGAAUUAAAAACAGAGAAAACAAAAGAAAAUAAAAGAAAAUAAAAUUCUAAAGAAAAUUAUUAAGAUUAACUAAAAACUAAAUAAAAAAUAUACUAAAACAUGAAUAAAGAAAAAUAAAAUAAAAAGAGUUAGUAAAAGGAAAAGAAAAUUCACCAAACUUGUGAUGAAGAUCACAAGUACUCUGAAAAGGUCAUAUCACUGUAAAGUGGCACCAUCCCCGGCAGCGGCGCCAUUUGAUUCAUGCCCAAUCGGUGUCUCAGCUAAUUCGUGUCCAGCUGGUAUCCUUGAUUGCGGGAGUAAUCAACAAAAUUUAUAACCUAUAACACCAUGAACUAGGGUAGCAAAGACAAAGCUACUAUAGCAUAGUGGCUCUAGGAUCGUUCACUGAGAUGGGUUUUCACUUCACAAUUGAUAUUAAUUCAAAGCUGAAUUGGUGCCUUUUCAUUUCAAGGUCAAGUUUAAAAGAAAACAUAAAGAUGUUUGAAACUAAACUAACAUAGAACUAGGUAAAAAUGGAAGAAAGAAAGUCUCCCGGAGCUAAAGGUUGCUAGGAUCAAGUUCAGAAUGCAAAGUGGGAAAUUCCGGAUUGUUCUCCUCGCAUUGGGGACAACAACAUAAAGGAUGGUUGUUUCCCGAACCGGUAUAGGUUUAACAAUGAAGAUUUAAUCCAUAAAAAGUCAAUAGAAAUUAGUCAAGUUCCAUUAAUGGCUUUAAACACUAUGGGUCUUCACCUUGAGUCACUUUCCAAUGGCUCGUAUAUGAUAACUAAUGAUCUGAUGUGGAUCUAGCAAUAAGUAUCCCCAGAGACCUAAAAGCUUGCCAUGUAUUGGCCAUUCAAAGUGAUUCUAAGGGGUUUAAAGCAAAAAUUUAGAUUUAAAAGCCAUUUAUAAACUCCAACUACCUGUAUUUAAAGCACGAGAAUUUUCCACUUUUUCAUCCGAACUUUUCACCUAGCUUCCCUUAGUCUAAGAAACCAAAGGUUUAGCCUCUCAUCCUCUGGGAAAACAUCCUCAGAGGUUGUUUGGCUAGUAAGAAAAUAUAAUCAAAAUGAGAAGGUAAAAGCAGAGCAAAGCUCUGUAUUUUUCUUCCUUUCAAAACUGUACAAAGGAUUGGUCGAUAAUAUAUUCGAUAUCUUGUGUAAAGGAAAUUACAAACUAUAUAUAAGGGUUUAUUCACCCUUUUUCCAAACUUAAUAACUAAGAAAUCCUAUCAUUGGUGGGUUACAAGGAGACUUUGGGAAUUUAGACAUAAAAUGUCUAAAGUAAAAUAUCUCAAAAUAUCCCAAAAUAUCGGUGGCAAAUAUCAGGAAGCUUCAGGAGAACACAGCAGCACUGUGCAGAAUGGCUGCUCUCCCAUCCAGGUAGGCGGAUAUCAGAUGAUCCGGAUACGUCCAUCUGGAAAAGUUGAAACACCUACAUCUCCCAUCCGGCUCCUGAAUUCCAGACGUGAACAUCCGGGGUGGAAAGUGCAUGGCAGCCGGAUGCAAUGGCAGCAGCCGGGUGCAAACGGCGGCGCACAUCCGGGUGCAACUCCUAUCUGGUGGUGUGGUCCGGACGCCCUCCGAUGGUGUAUCCGGACGCUCUAUCCGGGUAUACUCCUUGCAUGGAUUCCAAAAAACUCUCCUCAAUCUCAUAUUGCUUUGGUGAUAAAAAAGCUAUCAAAACACCAAAACUUAACACAUUUUUUAUUAGAAUUGAUUGCAAUGGUCCUUAACAUGCCAAUUGAGUUAAAAGGUGAUAACUACUACUCAAAAGUGUUUAAAAGAGUUAAUUACCAGCUAUGAAAUAACACUUUUUGAGUAGUUAUCAAUUGUCCACAAUGAUGGGUUUUCGUUAUACACUUGACAUUAAUGAAAUGAGAAAUGGUGAUUUCCUUUUUGAAAGUUAGUUUUUAAUGAAAAUAAUAUUGAUUGGAAGGGUUGAUUUUAAGUUAAGCAAACAUAAACAACUGAAAUUACUACAAAGAGAAAGUCUCUUGGAGCUAUAGGUUACUAGGAUCAUGUUCCUAUUGCAAAGUGGGAAAUUCCGGAUCUUCUCCUCGCAUUGGGGACAAUAACAUAAAGGAUGGUUAUCUCCCAAACCGGAUUUGUAUUUAGCAAAUAAGUUUUGAUCCAAAGGGUUCUUGAAAAAUGGUAGUUGCUUCCCAUUAAUGGCUUCAAACACUAAAGACCCUCACCUUGAACCACCUUCCAAUGGCUCGUACUUGAUAACUAAUGGACAUUCAUGGAUCUAGCAAUAAGCAUCCAUAGAAUCCUAAAAGCUUACCAAGUAUUGGCCAUUCAAGGUGAUUCUAAGGGAUUAAAGCUGAAACUUGAAAUACAAACCAUUAAUGUUACACAACUACCUUCAUUUAAAGCAAGGAAAACUCCCACAUUUGCAUCUGGGUCCUUUACCUAGCUCCCAUCACUCCAAGAAACGUGAAACUUAGCCACUCAUCCUCUGAGAAAUCAUCCUCAAAGGGUGUUUGGCUAGAGAGAAUAUGAAGAGAAAAUGAGAAGGAAAGGUAGAGAAAAACUCCCGUAUAUUUUCUUCAAAACCCGACUUUACAAAAUAUAAAAAACAUCAAGCAUCCUUUGAGAGGUUUUCCAACCCUUAUUUAUAGUUCGUAAACAAACCCUAAUGUCAUUUAUCUAUUACAAAGGAGUAAAAAGGAAAAAUUACAAUUCUGGAGAAAAAUCCCAAAAGUUGGUGCGCACAAAGUGAUUUUGGCACACCCUACCAAAUUUUGGCACAUCCUGCCAAAUUUUGGCACAUCCUGCCAAAUUGAUGAUUUUGCCUUGCAAAAUGCUCUGUUUUCCUCCAUCUUACUACUGAUAGUUUUGGCAAGAAUAGAGAAGUCAAGUAAUGGGUACAUUUCCUCAAUCAAUAGAAGCAAGACACACUAUAACUCAUAUGGCAUAAACUUCAUUCAAACCAAGUUUUCCAAACUCAAAUUUCAAAAUUUUGAAGGUGAGAAUUGGGAAUUAGGAAAAAGUAGGUGUGGACCCCGCAUUUCGCUUUGCUCGAAUGCGUUUCCCACUCGAAUGGCGAGCUCGAUUUUUAUUUUUUUUGAAAAUGAUUUUUAUUCAUUAAAAAUUGACUUGGAGUCGCCACUUAUUUUUGUUUUAUUUUUAAAGGGUAAACAAAAUAAGAAAGAAAAACCCUAAGUGUGACUCCUUAUUUUGGAAAAGGCGGUCUGUGAAAAACCGGAUCGGGUUCGGGGGUCAGGUUACUUAUCGGGAAGGUACGGUAAAGACCGUAGCACCCCUCUAAGUCCCUAAAGUCGGGUCUCUACUAAUAAGAUGAAACUGACAUGGCAAUCAAUGAGAAUCGAUGAAUAGUCAAAUCAAUCAUGCACAAUAUGAGAAGCGAAGCAUGUAUAAAGAAUGAGCGAAAUAUGAAUAGAUGCGUACCUGGAUGGCAAUCACGAAUGUGCUAUCAUGAAACAUGGUUAGUGAACAAUGAACAAAUAUAGUUAAGCGCAUAUCAAGGAAUAGAGUAAAUCAAUCAUGCAUGACAAAUAAAUAAAUCAAUCAGUCAAUCCAUCAUGAAGUCUCAUAUGUAGGGCCCCCACCAAAGCCCAAUUCAUUUUUGCAUGAAUUAAUACCAUAAAUUCCCUUGCUUGGAAUUACGGAAUUUUAUUCUAGCUUAUUUUAAAACAUUUUGAAAAUUUGAGGAGUUGUGAAAAUUGCUUAUCAGAAGAAAAAGUGGAGGCAAAAAUUUAUUAAAAAUAGGAUUUUUGUGUAACCUAGGGAAAAUGCUAAGGAUGAAAAGUUGGAAUAUUUGAAGUUAUUUAAUCGACCAAAACUUGGAAAACUACUUUGAAAACAGAGGUUUGAGGAAUUAUUUUAAAAUAAAAUAUGAUGAAAUAACAAAAAAAAAAUAAAAAAAUGGCACGUGGUCUAAUUGCCUGCUUUUUUAUUUCAUAAUAGUGACUCCAAACCCCACGCCUCUCAAGCUCACAAACUUGUCAUCUUCUCAAUCAGCAAAUGGCCUGUCUGCCAAGGCUGGCAUGUCACAAACGAUGCGUCCUGCAGCCAACAGUGUUUCAAGAACAGCAGCUUAGUGAUCAACAUGGAAAAUCUGACACGGCUCCCAGGUCAAAUUUGGUUUAGAACGAGUCCUCAAGCUGUUUCUCCCUGCAAUACUGGACCAUAAAUUUGUGACGAGAGUCCUGAAGUGACCUUUCCCAGCAAUAUGUUCCCAAAAGUGAGGGUUACUCUCCACAUGUUUAUCAGGACUCGAAACAUCCACACUACUGGUGCUCAUGUCGUUACGUACAAUGCACAGCUUUCCAUUAAGGGGGACAAGAGCAGCAGCCUCUAGAACUCGGGAGCUCCCCAGAUGGAGCUUGCUAUCUAUGAAUUUGUUCCAUGAAUCUGUGUCACUGUCAUAGACCCUGAGCUUGCACCCACCCUGGCAGUCCAAGGCGUAGAGCUGUCCAUUCAAAGAGAUGCUAGGGUUGCGCCAACCAGCAACCAUUCCAUCACUGAUUGGGGUCCAAGUAUUGGUUUCAGGAAUAUAAGCUUCACUCAUGACCUCACGGUGGGAUCCAAGUCCUUUUAGGAACCAUUUUCCAUUUAUAGAUUACUCCGAUAAAGGGCACCAUAGCCGAGCUCAUAUCUGAAAUAAAGCUCCACCUAUUCCUGUUAGGAUCAUAGACUUCAGCUGAACGGAGAGUCUUCUGAAUUCCUUCACAUUCGGAGCAUGCCAACUAAGGAGUUGAACGAAGUGGGCCCACAAUUCUUUAUCAAAACGAGGCUCAACAGUUUCUUUAUUGUUGGAAUCCUUGAGCCGACUAGGAUCCUCAUUGCAUACCUUCAGGUUCUGACGCCUUUCCAAGCAACCAUGCAUAUUUACUUCGAUCACACUGGUGAAUAGAAAGAGUUAUCUUCGUGUAAGCAUGCUAAAAAAACAUCGGUGUGCACUGUCGAAUGCUUCGAGCAUUGAGCUAUAUGUUUACAAAUCUGACAUGAGGGAAAUACUGCCACCAUCCAUGCAUAUACUAGAAGCAAAAAGUAGCAUCAUCGGAGACUAUAGAUAGACACUUGGCGGCCAAAUCUGGAGGGCAGUCUGAAUAUGAAGCAUGUAGUCCCCAAAUGAGCUUUUCGAGCUCCUCAUACCAUGAAGAAGAAUUUUUAGAAGGUGGUGAAGGGAAGGAUAAUGGAUAUGAGAAGGUCUUAGAGUGAGAAAAUGGGUUUGACGGAUGUUUUGAUGGGUAAUGAAGGCUGCCAUGCAUAUGAGAGAGUAUGAGACACGGGCAUGAAACAAUGGAUUUGAUGGAUAUGGGAUGCAUGCAUGAGGUGGAUGACAGAGGAUGAGAUGGACGGGUUUGAUGGGUACGUAGAAAUAAAAUAAUGGGUAUGAAAGGGUAGAGAGAGAAAAGAUGAUAGGAAAUGGGUGUGAAGAGUGGAAUAGAGAGAGAAAGUGAGGUGGUGAGAAAAAUGUAAGGGUGUAGGGAUAUGGGUCUAGAUAUGAGUGUAGGGAGAUGGUUUGUGGGUAUGAAAAGAAUGGGUACGAAGGACGGGUAUAGUGGGGUGUGGUUCAAUGAUGUUGUGCAUGGGCUUGUGCUCAGUUUCGCUACCGAUCCUGGAUUCAUCCCAUUGUUGAAGCAUGAAAUUAGUGGAGUAGCGUAGUGGCUGCGUCUUAGCAAGAUGCUUCACGGUGUCUUCUCCAGCUGUAGCCAAAACGCGUCAGCUGCUUCCACCCAAAACCUGAUAUGCUGAGAAGUUUCUGUCUAUUAUUGGAUUCGGUAUCUGAUUCGUCAAUCGUUGUGAUCUUCUCUUCUUCAAACUUGAUGCAUGGAUGCCAAAUUGCUCCAACAUUCUUUGAUAUACAUAUAGUUGGUAUCAGCCUUUGUCCUACUGUUGGGAGCAAGGACAUGAACCCUAGCAGCAUUAACUCUAACUUGACCUUUUCCAGCGCUUCAUAUAGAGCUCUCCUGUGUAACCUCAGAUUGCAAGGUAACCUCAGAGUUUUGUACAUCACAACCAGGAAUUCCAGCAGCGGAAUUAUUGCCAUAGCCUCUGACACUGACAUCAAAUUCCUGUCUCAUAUUCCACAAAUACUAAGACAAAGCUUUCAAAGAAUCCGGAAUCAUUGGUGGCUGUAGUUGCUCCAAAGUAACAUCAUUUGGAAGCAAAGAAGCACCAUUGAGAGAAUCAGAUUGAUUAAUUGUAACAGCUUGGUUAAGUUGUUGUUCGCUAGAGUCUCUCAAACCACUUAAACCAUAAGUUCCUAUGCCUUUCUCUGAGACAGGAUCCCAAAUUUUUGAGGAGGAUUUAUCUUCAUGUGAAGAAGAAACAGGGCAUGUAGCAUCAGUGAAGUCCCUAAACCAUACAAGCCCAUCCUCUGUACCACAGCUAGUAGUGAUAACUCUUUGCAUCGUCCUCAAAUCAAUUGUGGAAACAGAGGAACCAGCAGCAACAAAAAACAAUGAUUCAUAACAUCUCAUGUCCAUAGGUGCAUCAAGAACAGAAGUCAUUCCCACACAACAUAAAGAAUGGACAGUAGAUGAUGUAGUUGUAUUCCAAACUCUCACCUUAGAAUCUUUCGAAAUUGUCACUCGAAGAGAAGUUUUAUGCCCAGUAACUGUCAUCAAUUUUACAGGUUUCGCAUGCCCAUAAAGAGUUGCCUUUAAAGCCUGAUAGCCACGUUAACCACUUGAGCUAAGGAACCAAAGUCAAACUGUACCAUCUUAUCCUCCACUUGCAAAUACUUUGCCACUACCAUCACCCAGCAAUUUAUCUCAAAGAGUGGAAACUGGGCCAUUAUGAUUUCUAAAACACCGCUGGCAAGAACCCUUCCACCAUAGACGAAUGGAGUGGUCACAGCUUGAGAUUACCGAAACAUUUUCUUCUCGUUGUGUCUCACUUCGAAAUAAAGAUGUUUCACUAAGCGGAAAUAAUCUGCUAAAUGAUCAAUUCCAUAUUCUUUGUCAUUCACAUCAUGGGAAGCCCAGAAACGAAUUAUUAAUUACUUCUGGUCCAAAUUGGGAGACGAAUUCAGGCAGCCCUAGCAGGAGCCCACGACUUUCAGACAAGCUGAUGGUAUCUUCUGGGGUCACUCUAUCAGCACAUGGAACCUUCUUAGUCAAGGAUGCUACUGCUACUGCCAAUUUGGCUCCGCUUCUUGGCCGUGGCUAUGGACCUUUGGCUGAACUUCAAAACGUCAUUGACAAGACUGAAGCUGCCGAAUCACUUAGAUGUUCUCGUGAUCAAUUCUCCUCUUAGAUGUCAACCAAACUUUGAGAAUAUGUAUCCCUUGUAAGGAUUCACAACUAGCCUUGAUUUCUCUCUCUCUCACAGCCAAUGUAUUGAACGAGAUCCCAAAAGCAAAAGGCAAUCACCACAGAGAAAGAAACAAUAGAAACAGAGCAUAAAAAAAACAAAGUAAAAACAUCCUCAAAUGAGGCUUCACUGCAUGAGUCAUCAGCAAGCCCUCUGAUUAAGUGAGAAAAACCACAUCAAAUAUGACUAUUGGCAUGAUUCCUAGGUAUUUCGCAAUAGAGGCAAGGUGCAUUAAGAUCAACAAUGGCAAACAUGAGUUCAAGAUUAUAUAUCAACAAGCAACAAGUGGCCUUCAUCAUCCACUCCAAGCAAACCAACAAAUAUCCAGAUAUUAACAAGAAAUGCAGAGGAGUAAUAAGAAUCCAAACCAAACAAGAAAUCAGCUGCAUUCAUACCUGAGAGAACCCUUUUCCGGUAAGGCUCUGUUCAGCUCUAAACGCCUUAAGUCCUCCUCCAAUGCCGAUGAAACCAGCAAGCUUACCUCCCUAUCACUCUCUCACCAGCAGCCUCUAAAUCAACUCUCAGCAGUCUUCUCCCUCUGGUUUUCUCUCUGAGCUCCUCUCAAUCUCUAGCUAAGCAAUCCCUCAAAAAUAUCUCUCUCUAAGCUCUCCAAAAACUCACCUCUCUGCUCCAACCUCAAACCUCCCUCCUACAGUAAUAAAAAACUCCCCUCCCUAGCUUACCUUCCUUCCUCUCUGGUUCUCUCCCUCUCAAGUUCCCCUUCUCUCAAGAAAACUCUCACAGUAGUCUAUCCGCCCUCCCCUCCAGUUGCUCUCUCUCCUUUUCUCUGCCGAGAACCCUCCAAAAGCAGCCUGCUGUCCAAAAUAUCUCCUAACCAACUCUGAAAAGCACCACCUGCCAGAGACGCCCCUCUCACAGCAACGUACCUCCUCUGCAUAUCCUCCUCCAGGUGUCAACCUCUGAUUAGUCCAUCAAUUCCACUAUUUUGAUAACCAACUCUGAAAAGCACCACCUGCCAGAGACGCCCCUCUCACAGCAACGUACCUCCUCUGCAUAUCCUCCUCCAGGUGUCAACCUCUGAUUAGUCCAUCAAUUCCACUAUUUUGAUCCCAUAUUGACUAAUCCGGGAGUGACACGUGGCCAUGCAAGAUGGUGACACUUGUCAAGCAUCAGCUGCAAGAAUCACUCCCAAAAUGGGGGUCUACAGUAGGAUUGGCUUCCUUACAUUUAAAAGGAAGGGCCUUAGAAAGGUUUCAAGGGUAUGAGGCUAUUAACAAGGAAAUCAAAUGGACACAAUUUUAUAUAGAUGUUGUUUCUAGGUUUAGCCCUAGUGUUAAUGAUAACCUUAUGGGGUAAACAACCAAAUUGAAAUAGGUUUCUACAGUUAUGGCAUACAAAAAUUAGUUUAAGGUAUUGAUGACCAAAACUAGUGGGUUUUUGAUUCAUGCCCAGUCGGGUGUUUAUCAAAACAUUUAUAAAACCUACAACACCUUAUACUAGGGUAGCAAAGACAAAGCUACUAUAGUAUAGUGGCUCUAUGAUCGUCCACAGGGAUGAGUUUUCUUUGUACACAUGACAUUACUGAAAGGAGAAAUGGUGAUUUCCUUUUGAAAGUUUGUUUUUAAUGAAAAUAAGAUUGAUUGGAAGGGUUGAUUUUAAUUUAAGCAAACAUAAACAACUUAAAUUAUUACAAAGAGAAAGUCUCUUGGAGUUAUAGGUUACUAGGAUCAGGUUCCUGUUGUAAAGUGGGAAAUUCCGAAUCUUCUCCUCGCACUGGGGACAAUAACAUGAAGGAUGGUUAUCUCCCCAACCAAAUUUGUAUUUAGCAAAUAAGUUUUGAUCCAAAGGGUUCUUGAAAAAUGGUAGUUGCUUCCCAUUAAUGGCUUUAAACACUAAAGACCCUCACCUUGAACCACCUUCCAAUGGCUCGUACUUGAUAACUAAUGGACAUCCAUGGAUCUAGCAAUAAGUAUCCAUAGAAUCCUAAAAGCUUACCAAGUAUUGGCCAUUCAAGGUGAUUUUAAGGGAUUAAAGCUGAAACUUGAAAUACAAACCAUUAAUGAUACAUAACUACCUUCAUUUAAAGCAAGGAAAACUCCCACCUUUGCAUCCGAGUCCUUUACCUAGCUUCCAUCACUCCAAGAAACGUGAAACGUAGCCACUCAUCCCCUGAGAAAUCAUCCUCAGAGGAUGUUUGGCUCUAGAGAGAAUGUGAAGAGAAAAUGAGAAGGAAAGGCAAAGAAAAACCAGGCUUUAUAAAAUAUCGAAAACAUAAUAUCUCCUCCUCCUCUGAGAGGUUUUCCAACCCUUAUUUAUAGUUCCUAAACAAACCGUAAUGUCUUUUAUCUAUUAUAAAAGGAGUAAAAAAGAAAAUUUACAAUUCUGUAGAAAAAUCUCGAAGCUCGGUGCGCAUAAAGUGAUUUUCGCACACCCUGCGAAAUUUUGGGACACCUUGCGAAAGUUUGGCACACCCUGCCAAAUUUUGGCACAUCUUGCGAAAUAGAUGAUUUUGCCUUGCGAAAUAGAUGUUUUCCUCCAUCUUACUACUGAUAGUUUUGGCAACCCCUUUCCAAGUUUGGCAAGGGGUUUUGAAGUGCUCCAAAACUCGGAUUCUUCAUGUGAUUGAUCUUCAACUUGCCUUACCAUAGCUUGCACAAAACUCUCCCUCAAUUUUGGCCUGUUUCAAUGAUCAAAAAGCUACCAAAAACACUAAAACUGACCAAAAAUUGGUUAGUAACAUUUGCUAGGUCCUUAACAUGCCAAUUGGGAUAAAAAGGUCUAACUACUACUCAAAAGUGCUUAAUACAAUUAAGUUUAAGCUUAUAAAAAUGCACUUUUUGAGUAGUAAUCAAUCUACAUGCAUUUUUUUAGAUCAAACAAUAACUGCAUGGUUUGUCUCAAGGUUCUCUCGAUAUUAAUACUUAUUAUACCAGUUUAAAAAUUCUUUGGGAUGAACUUAAGAUGUUUGAACCCAUUUCCCGUUUGGCAAUUUGGUGGCAUCAAAAUAUGGAUGGAUUAUCAAUAGCAUAAGUAUGUAAUGCAAUUUUUUAAGGGCUUGAAUGAAUCCUAUGUCGUGAUGAGUGGGUAGAUUUUGAUGUUUGGCCCAUUACCCUCUGUUGCGAAGGUUUUCAAUCUCGUCGUUUAAGAAGAACAAUAAUGCACCAUCGAAUCUAGUUCCCUUGCUCUGUUUGAAUCUUUGGCAUUUAGUGCCUCCUCGUCAUCUCUCUCUGUUGCAAAUUUCUCUUCUUAGGGUAAGCUCAAUCAUGAUCACCCGAUUUGUUCUCAUUGUGGGCUCAUGGGGUAUAUUGUGAAUUGUUGCUACAAGUUACAUGGGUACCCAAUUGGGUAUAAGCCCAAACCCAAGGCCCAAUUGAGCUCUCUUCAGCCCACCAACAAUCCAUUAUCUUUCCUUAAGCCAUCAAAAGACACCCACUUCUCUCAUUUAGCUACAACUGCCAUACCAUCCUCUCCACUUUCUAGUUCUCUCUCAAUAGAUCAAGUUCAAUAGCUCAUAAAGUAGACUUUAUUCACUUUGGAAUAAUCCUUUGUCAUGAUCAAAUCUUAUUAUCCACAUGCCUUGUUUGACUAAGAUCAUUAUAAUUGUUUCCCAAAGUGAGUCAAUGCCAAAUAUUGAAUAAUUGGUUAAGCAUAACUCUUACACACAUUCUAAGAUUUAUGCUCUUAACUUUAUGUGACUUGCUUGCAACAUUUGGAAAUACCCCUAAAGUGGAUACAAAGGUAGCCAUGAAUGAAAAAAAAAAAUCAAUAUUGAUCAAAGUGUACAAUAGCUUUACUUUCAAAAGAAAAAAAAAGUAAAAAAAAAAAAAGAACUAUGAUAUCAAAUUAAGGGGAAGUCAAGUUGUGUUGUAUAUAAAUCAACAAGACCGUGUUAAAUAAAAAUCCAACAAUCUUAGAUCAAAUUAAUUGGAUGUGUACUUUAAUUAGAACAAAGGUAUGAUUGGAACUCUUCUAAGUGAUCAAUUUUGAAAUAUAGAACUAGACAAUAAGUUGUAUUCCCUUGAACAUCAAUACUUAUGUAUCUAUGUUGACCUUCUUAUCUACUAAUGGUUAUGCACUAGAUUUUGAAAUUGAAAUUACAAUUAACUCUAACCUUUUGGACUUGAAACCUCAAUCUUGAUGGAUUGAUGUAUAAUAUCUAUAGUAACUCGCUUUAUAAUUGAUUAAAGUAACUCCUGCAAGCUAUUUAAAGCCAUCCAGUACAUUAUUUCUUAUUUCUCACUUUUCUGAGUUGUUUCAAUCACUCCAUGUUUCCACUUCUUCGUCAUUUGAGGUCAAUUCUCUUAGUUUUUCGUAUUUUUGUUCAUAUAAUAUUUUUUACACCUCAUUUUUAGUAUUCUUAGAUGUUUAGGGGUUUUUUUUUUUUGGAUUUUCAUCAAUUUUUCUUACUUUUAUUGUCCUUUUAUAUUUCAUCCUCUUGUUAUGGAAAGUCGUCAUCAUCCGUAUGAGGUGACCCCUCUAAGGUCGCCUGAGCUCAUUUAAAGCAUUGCACUCUAAAGUCCAUUUGACCUAAGAAUUUUUCUUGUUGAGUGCUUCCAUUGUUAGGAGGCAUGAGAUCAAUACUACACCUCUUUCAAUGAUUAACUAGUCGAGGUUGAGCAUCCAGUCAAUCUCAAAGUCUUCUAGGAGACUUCUCUCAUUGCUAUUGUUAGAGUGAGGAUAAGAGACAUUAUUUUCUCUUUAGGGGACUUCUACCCCCAUCAUAUUCACAUGUUUUAUGUGAACAUGCAUUCUCUUGUAAUUGGAGUUACCUUUUAGUUGAUUUUGUAUUAUCAAUCAUUUCUUGUCUCUUCCUGUUCUAUUUGAUGUGUUCUUAGCAUGUUGCGACAUGAGUCUUGCUUUGGGCAGAAGCCAUUCUCUAAGCCAGCGUGGCUACUAGCUACCUUCUUCACCUACUCCUUCUGUCAUUCUACUCAUCGUACCCAUAUUUGUCGGUUGUCUACUCAAUUCAUUCAUGCCAUACUCUCUAGCUACCAAUUUGAUAUCGACUUAAUGAUUUUGGAUAGAAUUACUCCUUCCCAUGAUCCAUAUUUUUGAGAAGGCACCUUUUCCUUUACCCUUCUUAUCUCAUAGAAUUUGGAGGAUGUAGGUUUUGAGAUAAACCCUACAUUAGGGGGUAUAAGAUACAUAUGCCCUCUUGGAAGGGAGCUCCUGGGCUAAGCCUUAUAGCCACAUUUAUGGACCAAUGGCACCUUUAAUCCACCAUGGUCCUCAGGAUAUAGCUCAACAGGCGGCUUAGGAGGCAACAAUAGAGGAGGAUGAGCUCCAAGCUAUGAAGCAAAGUGUAGUUCUUGAGGUAAAUUAUCUUAAGCCUACUUUGAGGACUUGCUCUAGUUGAGGUCAAGCAAAUUCUUCAAGAGCUACUCACAAGCAGUGUUUUAAAUGCCACAAAAUAUCGGGGAUAUUUUGCCAAUAUUUCGGGUAUAGAUGGGGCUCAAUAGAUAAAGAGAAUGAAAUUUUGGGUUAUGCAAAAUUUUGAGUAUUUCCCUCAUUUUUCAUUGAUAUAUCGGCUAUAUGCUGAUAUAAUACCAAUAGAUUAGUUAUAUUGGUCAUUUUUUAGUGCUUUGAUUUCUUUUAGGCCAAAAGGUUUCCCUUUUUUGCCAAAAGGUUUCUCUUUUUUUUCCAAAAGGUUUCCAUUUUUUAUUUUAAGCCGCAUUCUCACACGCACAGCCACACAAUAGUUGUUCGAGAGGAGAAAGGCACCAUCUAUUAAAUAGGCAAUUUUGUUCUCUCAAGUUUAUUGAUAAGUUUAAAAUUCUAAUCAAAUAGGUAAACAAAAUUUACAUUGGUGAGACUUGAACCCGAGUGCACAAGUUUGUCAUGGAAGGACACAACCAUUAAACCAUAUGUGAAUUUGUGGUUUAAAUUGUAUAUAGAAUUAUAUAUAUAAUGUACAUACCUUUUAUACAUUAUAAUAUUUUUAAUAUAUAUUAUAAUAAUAUUUAAUAAAUUAAACCAUUAUAAAUAAGUUAAUUUUAAUUAUCAUAUUAUAUAUUUUGUAUUCCAAUUAAAUACAAGGUAAAUAUAAAUUUUAUAAAUGAAUUUUUUAAUAUAAAAUACUUAUCUAAAUAUCACUUUUUUAUCCCUCAAUAUAUUCAAAUCAAACUAUUAUCAUUCUAAUAUUAUUGUGCUUUUAAAUUAGUAUAUUAUUGCCUACUAUUACAAAUUUAUUACAUAUUACUAUAUAUAUAGUAAUAUGCGUAUUCUUUUUUAUUUUAUCAUUUUUUUUAAGUUUUUCCAAGUAUUUUCAUGAAUUUUGAUUAAUUUGUAUUUCUUCAUUUUUUUUUUCAAAAUAUUCCACCGUUAUUUCCUGAUAUAUCCAUAAAAUCCAAUGAUCAAUAAUUCCAUGAUUAUCGAUAUUUUCAUCUUUGCUCACGAGACAUCUUUUUCUAUAGGCCCGACUACCCGAGAGACAUUGGAUUCCAUGGCUUAUGUCCAUUAGUAGAUGGACUCACAGGAUCUUCACCUUCGUGAGAUCCAAGGAUAACUCCACUAUAUCAUUUCCUAGAUCCACUAUAAAGGCGCCUUGAGCUCUACCUCUCUGUCUUCUUUGGAUGCAUAUAUAUAUAUAUAUGUUGUAUUCUUCUUUCUAUUUAACUCUUUAACUAUUGUGUGCUUUCCAAUGUUUAUAAUUCAUAUGCUUUGCCAUUUUUAUGACAAAAACAGGAGAUCAUUGACCAUAUUUAACUCACUUAAAUAGGGAGAGCGUAGGCAUCAAUAUAAUAGAAAAAAAGAUAAAGAAACUCGUUGACAAAUAGGAGUUAAUAAUUUUUUAAUUAUUUAUUUAAUUCAUUCUUUUGCUCAUUUAAUUCUUAAGGGAAAUUAAUUGAAAUAUUGGAGAAAAUUAAACCUAAGACAUUAGAAGAAAUUCGAUCAACUGUUGAAAGCAUAACUUGGAAGUUUAAGAGAGUUACCUAACACAAAUAUUUAUGUUUGAAUUGUCUUUCUCUUUGGAACUAUUAUGAGUCACGAAAGCUUCUUCUCAUGGUUUUCAUUGUCUAUUUUCUAGUUGGAGAUAGGCCUCUAGGCAUCAUAGUUGAUCUAUUGUGUCUUAUCAAGAUUCUAUUAUGUUCGGUUGAUUUGUAUACAUUUAAAUUCCUCUCGAGCUUUACUUUGUACCUUGGUAUCACUAUAGGGAUAUAUUUCUCUUACAUGUUUUCACAUCCAACUAUCAUGUUCUAUUGCUUUGAUCAUAUCUUAUUUCACACAUUGUUCUACUUUUGUUGUAGUUUUUUUAUGUGUGUAGCUUACAAGAUUGGAAGAUAAGUACUACAAGAUGAUGCAAAGCAUUCCCUUAGUUUAUUUUUAAUUAAGCAUUAAUGUGUGUUAUGUAAACUCCUUUAUAAGAGUUUAGAUCGGUUUAUGUAAUGAUGUUUUGUCACAAGACUGCCAAAGAGUGAAAUAGUUAGGACAUUAAGUCUUGAUUAUAUGUUGGAAAUUUUGUUCAUUUUAAUGUUUGGCCACAAAAGUCUUUUUAGAUAGUGAAUUGCUCUCCAUUGAAGGUCAAAAGUUAUUGUUUGUCUAACCGAGAAUUCACAAGUAUAUCUAAAAAAGUUUGGCUUGUAGUAAGUUAGGCUCCUUUGAGGUAUAAAGAAGAUUGAUAAUUGUUUUGAACUUAAAAUUAAUUUUUAUAAGGUUUUUGAAAAACAGGGGAUGCUUAAGUAGGAAGCAAUGCUCAAGUUGACCACUCAAGUGCCAUACACUGCUUGAAUGCCCAAAGCGCUCAAGCCACUAUCAUAAGCUCGAGCAAUCAUGAAUUUAUAGUUGAGAUUUUUUCAUGCAAAAUUGAUUUGGAAGUCUUCUAAAACCAAACCUUUUGGAGAUUUAUUCCUACAAAUACCUCUUUAUAACCCCUUAAGGGUUAGAGAUUGUUUAAGAGAUUGGUGAGAGAUCUUACAUUCUUUAGGGAGAGUCUCUUAGAGAAAAAGCUUAACGAGCCACACCAUUCCCAAUCUCUCAUUCAAGGAUUCAAUCUUUGAAUCUUGGUUGAAAUGCAUUCACUAGAGUAAUAGGAGGUUGCUACGUUGCGGACAUGGAUCAAGUUUUAAGUAUUAAAGAGUAAGUCUUUAGGGUAAAGUGGCUAAGUAAAUCUAUAUAACUUGAUCUCAUAUAAUGGAUUUAGAUUAUUGGUCUUACACUUCAUGUUCUUUUAUCUCCACAAUUAGUGUGGGGGUUUUCCAUGUGAAAAAUCUCUUGUACCUCAUUUCUUAUUACUUGAUAUCUUAUUUGAACUGCCUACAAUAGAAAUUAUUGGUAUACUAAUAUCUCGUAGGAUAAAAAUUAGGUAUAACAUAUAAAUCUUUAUUUAAAUUUUUUAACAAAUCCAUUUUGCCUCCUUCCCCUAGGUGUUACCUCACUGGACUUAGGGGCUUUUCAAACCAUAAGUUGGUUCAACUUGAGUUGUUCUUUUAUGUUGUUGACCAUCGUUAGAUGAAUCAUUUUGUUGGAUUGCACUUGUUAAUCGAUUUUUUUUUCUCAUAUCCAACUUUUGUUUCUUGUGAUUCCUCCAUCUAAAACCCACCAAUUAUUUUACAUCAUAAUAUAAAGUUUCACCACUUGUUUUGUAUUUUAACCCUAACAAUUCAUGUUCUUUAAAAGUAACAUCUCUACUAAUUAUUGUCUUUCUCAAAUUCAGACACUACAACUUAUACCCCUUCACUUUAGUAGAAUAUCUAAGAAAUAAACAUUUCUUUCUUUGCUCUUGGUUGCAACUUUUUAUCAUUUACAUGUGCAUAUGUUGUUGACCCAAAUACAAUAAGGUGUUCCAUACUUCUUGAGGUGUUUUGAACUUUAUGGAACUUGAAGGUCAUUUGUUAAUCAAGUCACAUCUUGUAUGGAUAUCUUUCACCCAUAACUUUGUAGUUUAUCUUAUAUUUAUCAACAUGCAUCUUACUCUUUCAAGAAUAGUAUGAUUCAUCCUUUUAGUUAAGCCAUUUUGUUGAGAUGUACUCUUCACAGUUCUUGUUGGGAUUGAGCUCUUAAAGGAAACACAUGAUGUAACAAAGUUAGACUUAACUGUCCUCUUGCCAUCCUUUUGGUGUAUUGACAUUGAUUUGAGCAUUUAGCUCAUAUCUCUUACAUUAUUACAUGACUUAGGUCAUUAAGAGUUGCACACAAGAUACAAGUCAUGAGUUCCUCAUAAGUACAUAAGUUGUCCACAAUUGGUUAAUGGAUUUGGGCAAUCCAAUAAAGACUGUAGUGCACCACCUCAUAAUUGAAGGGAUGACUUAUCUUGGCCAUCAAGAUGAGUAUCCCAUGAUGAAAUGAUGAGUGCACUAGUUUAUGUGAUGCACAUUGGACUGGACCUAUGGUGAAUCAUGAUGUAAGGCUAUCAAAUGUCAUGAUUCACCAAGCUAUUAUGCUACAUGGACUCUCAACCUUGAGAGGAUAUUGAGCUUGUGAUGAAAUCAAUAGAAGGCUUUGACCUAUGGGAGAGACCCUAAAGUGGUCAUAUAUCCUUAUAGAUUAGGUCACUAUUAAUGAAGACUAGCGACAAUAGGUAUUCUCAAUAGAGGCACCAUGAUAUCCCAUAGGAUUGAGACGGUGUGUCCCCUUGAGUGAUCUAAAGGACAUGUGAUAAUGAAAUUUGUGGCCAAAGUAAUUCCUUUAGUGGAAUUUGACUUAUGCUCCUUGGAGUUGGAGCUAGAGUAUGUUAGUUAAUCAUAUAAUAGGUUGUGUGCACGAGACGCGCAUAGGUCACAUGCAUGGGAAUUGCAUGAGACGUGCUUAUGGGUAGCAGCAUGAGGAGAAAGACUCUCUAGUUUUUCCAAGUAUGUUCUUCAUCGGAUGGAUUUUGAUUUGGGAACAUCUAAAUCACAAGUAUGAGUUUCAAAUAUCAAGAUCUAUAGUUAUUAAUGGUUUUCAUUGCCAUUUUAUUUCACUAUGAUAGAUUUUCAAAUGCCUAGAGAUAGAUGCAUGCACCCUAUGAGAUCCAAGGUAUUGGAAUGGAGUAUUAAUCUAGGGUUCCGAAGUGAUUAGAAUAGUAAGAUCUAAAGAUUGAACCUAGCACUAAUUAAACAUCUGGUAUUUAGACCUAGGUCAUAUUAAUCUGAAUAAGAUGCAAAGAUUGGCAAAGUCAAGACUCUUUGAUUCCAAAAGAUCUUCCAAUCUAUGAAUUUUAUAUAGAUGGUAAAAUGAUCAAGAGGACUAGAAUUAAGGAAUAUUUGGAGUUAGUGCAUACUAACAUGUAUGGACCUUUUAGUGUCUAUGCAUGGGGAGGGUAUGGGUAUUUCAUCACUUUUAGUAAUGAUUGCUCUAGGUUUGGAUAUGUACAUAGGAAAUCUGAUGCCUUGGAUACAUUCAUUGAAUUUAAGGUGGGAUCGAAUAACCUAUUGGAUAUACAUACCAAGUCAUUUCAAUUAUGUCAAGCUGAUAUGUCUAGUAAGUUUGAUUUUUUUUGUUGGAGCAUAGGAUUAUUUUCUAGUUAUGUUCAUCAAGGUCUCUAUUGCAAAAUGGAGAAGUGGAAAUAAGAUAUCAAACUUGGAUUAACAUAGUAAGAUUGUGGAUAGGCUUCUCCUAUUUUAUCAGAUUAUUUUGGGGAUAUGUCAUAUAGUCUGUGUAAUUACCUUUUUCUUUUUUCUUCGUAAGAGGUGUAUUAGUUUAUAGGAUAUCUAAGAGGAUUUUUGGGUUAUUAGGUUUAUAGUCAAGAUGAUCAAAAAAUAUUUGUGAACAUAAAUGUCCCAUUUUUUAUGAAGAUUAUAUGAUAAGGAAGAAGGCAGGGAGUGACAUAGAUUGGAGGAUAUAUUAGAAUAUAGUUCCACAUUACAUAGGACACUAUGGAUCGAAAGGGUUAAAGACAUACCAUUCUUAUGAUUUCUAGUACACCAGUACUUCAUCAUAGUAAGGAGUUUAUAUCCCACAAAUUAUGAUGAAGCAAUGAGCAGUGUUUAUGCUCACUUAAGGCAAGGACGUGUGAUCAUGAAAUCUAUGAACCCAUUAUAAUUCUUUUAGUGAAAUUUGACAUAUGCUCUUAGUGAUUUAGAGUAUGUAAUUUAAUCACAUAAUAGGAGGAUCUAUAACUCUAAAAUUGUAGAGGUAGUCUUUAAAGACUGAUAACUUUCACCUUGUUAGACUACAAACAACCAAUUCAUGGGAAGAUUGUAUACAAUAGAUAGCAAGUCACGAACUUGAGCACUUGGUGUCUCAUUGUAAUAUACAUAGGGUACCAAAAUAUAGUUAACUCUCUAUAGUGGGAUAUUGAGUCAACUUUAUAAUUGGAUUCUAAGGGAUCUAGUACUGUCCUAUGGGUUCCAUUGGUCUCUACUAAAGCUUAUUUUCCUUGAUAACAUGGUUUAUGAGAGUUGGAUGAGUUUUUAGUUAACUUGUGUGCAUAAAUGCAUUUUGGUAAUUACACAAGGUUACAUAGGGGUAACUGUGCGAUAUCUUUGAACUUGGGUAAUUGAUUAAUUAGAGCCUUAUCGUAUUAAUUAAUCAAUUAGAAAUCUUUUUGGGUUAAAUUAAGUGACCCAUGCCCAUAGUGGGCUCAAGUCACUUAAGCAUAGUAGGAAACUUAUAAAUACCCCUCUCAAGGGUUUAGGUUUCUAAUUCAAUCUUGCCAUUCUCUCCCUACAGUCCAGAGAGAGAACCUUAGUCUUCAACCUUGAGAUUUCCACCAUCUCAGUGCCUAGAUUCAAGAAGGAGUCAUCGAGUGGAUGAUUAUGGGUUUACAGGAUCUUUAUUAGAUUUGGAGCUUUCUACACUAACAAGAAUUGAUUUGGGAACAUCUGAAUAAUACAUAUAACACUUUUUUCUAGAUUCAUGAUAUGUUUUCUUUUUUAAAAUACCAAAGUUUUCAACUAUGCUUAGAUCUAGAAAGCACAAAAUAGGAUUACAUGCACCCUAAUGAUCCAAGGCCUAGGAAUAGAGCGAUCCAAGGUUUCCUAGAAAAUAUAACCCAAUAAGUAAGAAUGAUUUAUAGGAACUAAAAAUUCUUUCAAAAAGAAAAAAAGUUAAUUGGAGUAAGAUAGGUAUACAAGAGAAGGAAAAAUGCAAAAGGAGUAGAAAAAUAUAAAGCAACAUUGGUGCAAAGGAUUACAAGAAAGAAUAAUGCACCAACAAGAUGAGGGUAUUUGCUCUCAUUGUUCUUUUAGUAACUAUAAAUUAAUAAUCUCUUUGGUAGCUCAAAAUAGUUGAAAUUUUCAAAUGGAUGUGAAAUCCAAUUUUUUGAAUUGACAUCUUGAAGAAGUGUAUGUAGAACACACCAUAGUUGGUAUAUAUAUAUAUAUGGGCAUGAGAAUAAAGUUCCAAAAUUGAAAAUAACCUUGUAUGGAAUAAAACAAACACUAAGAGCAUGAAAUGAUAGAAUUGACCAAUAUUUUCAUGAUAAUAAUUUUGUUUAAUACCUUUAUGAACACGCUCUCUGCAUAAAAGUGAAUGAAAAAAAGUAAUAUAUUACUUGUUUGUUUAAAUGUGAAUUUUUUGAUCUUUAUUGGAACUAAUCCAAUCAUGUUUAACGAGUUCAAAGAAGUAAUAGAAUAAAAGUUUGAGAUGACUGGAUUAGUCUCAUAUCAUACUCUCUUGGCUUAGACUUGAAGAGAUUGAAAAGAGUACUUUUUAUUUCUCAAGAAGACCAUGCAAAAUAAAUUUUCAGAAAGUUUAACUUGAAUAUGUGUAAUAUGGUAAACACUACAAUAUAAUGCAAAGCUAAAUUAUCAAAGACAUGUAGAAAGAGAAAAAGUGGAUUCAACAUAACAUAAAAUCUUAGUUGGAAGCAUACACUAUUUGACUUAUACAAUUUCAAACAUUCUCUAUGGCAGUUGGAUUUGUCCAUCAUUAUAUGGAAGCACUAAUGAGUAUUUACACUAAGACCUCGUGAAUUUUUCACUACAUCAACGACACAUUUGAUUAUGACUUAUAUUAUUCACCUUUAACAAUUUCAAACUUGUUAGAUAUAACGAUAGUGAUUAAGGUGGAGACUUAGGAUGAUACAAAGAGAACCACUAGCUUUAUGUUCCUCAUGGGAGAUACCAUGUUCACUUGGACUUCAAAGAAGCAACCUAUUGUGAAACUUUCAAUGUAUAAAGUGGAAUUUGUAUUGGCAUCAUGUGUACGUAGGUCAUGGAAUUUGGCUCAAAAAUUUGUUGAAAGAAUUUAGUUUACCACACAAGAAACCAAUAAAGAUCCAAGUGGAUAUAAAAUCAACAAUUACCUUAUGAAAAAAUCUAGUUCUCCAUGAUGAAAGCAAGUACAUUGAUACAAAAUAUCAUAUUUUAGAGAGUAUAUGAAAUACAGAGUGCAAUUAAAAUUUACAAAAUCUCAUAAUCAAAUUGUUAAAAUGUUUACAAAUUCUCUUAAGUUUAGCGAUUUUAGAAAGCUAAGCUUGCUACUUUGACAAAUCAAGUUGAAGGCAUGAGUGAAAAUGUUGACAAAGUUUCUCGAGUUUAAAAAUUUUAGAAAACUAAGGAUGCUAUUUUUACAAUUGAAUGGAGGAUUUAGUAAAACUGGAUUUAGGAAGUUUCUAAAAAUUAGAAUUUGAGUUAGAUUCUAAAAUGCUUGUUUAGUUUGUAUAUUUUGUUAUUACAAGAUUUCAUAUUUUACCAUUAUGAGUAUUAAAUUUUUUUAGGUGUUAAUAUCUAAAAAUAAGAUGUUAUGUAAUAGUUGAACAAGAGUGGUGGAAGAAAAUAAAUUUUUUCUUAGUCAUCCCAAUUAUUUAAAUAUCUCCCUUUACAUAUGUAAUUAUGUAAUGCCCUAAACCCAAUUUAGGGGUAAAAUCAUAAUUUAGAAAUUAUUAAUGAAUAAAAGUAAUUUAAUAAGGGUAAAAAAGUCUUUUUAUAUUUAAAACCCUAGAUAUAAAUUAGAUUUUUCAUAUCUUCUCUAUUCAGAAAACCCUUUUACAUAGAGAUCAGAAAGAUCAAAGAGCAUAGGGCUGAAGAUUUGGAGGUUUAGGGUUUGAAGAUCAAUUUUUCAGGUAAGAUUUUUAAUCCUUAAAUUAAUAUUUUAUAUUCGCUAAUUAGUUUUGAAUACUUUAGAUAUUCUUUGGAAUAUCUCAAUUUUGAUUAGAGUUCAUUUAAUUAAUUUCUAGGUCAAAAAGAUUAAAAAUUUAUGAACAUAGUUUGAUUUAUUAAUGGAGAUCGAUAAGUUUUGAUUGCUCAAAUGAAUAAAUCUAGAUAAAAAAAAAUUAAAAAUUAUACUUUAGAGGGUAUGGAGGUUAAAAGUUUUUACUUUAGAGAGGAGAAAACAAAUGAUGAAAGAUGCGUAGGAAGGAUUUGGCAUGUUGAAAAAAAAAAUGGUUGACCUAGGAAAGGAAUUAAAUAGUAUUUUGGUAAACAAUAAGGAAGAAAAGGACGUGGAUGUCUUGGAAGAGAAAUAGGUUAAGGUGUUGUUAGGUAUUGAAAUUAAUAAUAAUAAUAAUAAUAAUAAUAAUAAUGAUGAUAAUAAUAAUAAUAAUAAUAAUAAUAAUAAUAAUAAUAAUAAAAGAAACAAUAAUAAUGAAAGGAGUUGGUGUGGAGUUGUUGGGAAAAAAAAAAAGAAAAAUUGCAUGGGGUAUUUGUUAAGUUUCAAUAGAAGAUUUAAAUAAUAGUAAUAAUAAUUUAAUACAAAUAAAUAUUCGUAAAAGUUUUAAUUUAGAUAAGUUAGAAAAGAGAAAUAAAUUAUUGUUUAGGAAGUUGAAAAUAAUAUUGGAUGGUAAUAAUAUUAAUAUGAGAAAUUAAUUAGGAUCCCUAAUACUAAAUAAAAUAUUUUUAAGGUUGUCAAAUUUAUAUAUUUAGAUAAAUAAUCAAUAAUCAAUAUUGUGUAUGAUAUUAUGUUAGGUGAGGAGUAAAUUCGUCAAGCUAAAUACUUUAAGUUUUUGAGUGCUUCUUCAAGGUAAGGGAAAUUAGUGCGGAUUUUUAUAAAAGAAAACAAUUUUAUUUUUAUAUUGUAUUUUGAAAUGUGCAAAAAUAUUAUUUUUAUCUUUACGUAUAGAUGAAAUAUGUGUUUUGUAUGGAAAAUAUAUUUGAGAAUUUUCUUUGUUUAUGAAAAAUGAAAAAUUAAGGAGAUAUGAUAUUUUGUUUUGUAAAUUUGAAUUAAUGAAAUAAAGUGUUUGACUUUGGUUCUUAUGGCCCUAAUCAACGGGUUAUAAUUGUUGACAUAUUCAGCCCUAAUCAACGGGUUAUAAUAGUUGAUAUUAUAUGACCCCAGUCAACAGGUUAUAAUUGUUGACAUAUUCAAUCCUAAUCAAUAGGUUAUAAUAGUUGAUAUUAUAUGGCUCUAGUCAAUGGGUUAUAAUUGUUGACAUUUGGUUUUGUUCACCUUAAAUAGAACAAAUUUGAAACUAGUUACUCAAUUGUGAAGUCCCAUCUAAUUAGGCACUAUUUGUCAUACAAUAACCAGAGUAAAGAUAUUUUGAAUGUAUUCGAUUUGGUUUUGAUGAGAAAUUGUUUUGAAAUGGAUAUGAGAAAGUUUUGUUGAAAAGUUUGAAUGUAUUAGUAUUUUGAACUCAAAAGUUUUUGUGAAAAUAAGUAUAUGUUAUAUUUGUUAUUUGCAAGCAUGAUUGAAAAUGUUUGAUCCAUGAAACUGUAUUAAUGUUCCUUAUUGGGCUUUGAGCUCAUCCACUUUUGUUAAUAAUCUUUCAACUAACCUCAGUUCGAGUGAGGAGUGACCGUUAGGAGGGAAAUUUGGCUUUAUUAGGACAUUUGUUUAAACUCUCUUUAUGUUGGACAUUGUUUAGAUGUUAAAACUUAAUUCUCAUUUGAAUUAUUUUGAGUUUGGAGUUAUUUGGACAAUGACACUUUGGUUGAUGUAUUAGUUUUUUUAUAAAGUUGAUACUUGGAGAUUUUAGAAUUUUAUCAUACUACUCUGAAUAGGAAUUUGGUAAUUUGUAAAUUUCUAGUUACAAUAUGAAUGUUUGUAUCGUUUCCACUUUGAGCCUUUGGGCUUGAGGUGAAAUGAGAGGUGAAAUGAUCGUCAUGCCCUUGGAGUGGGUUUUGGGGUGUGACAAAUUACUUCCAUGUUUUUUCAACCAUAUUAUUGCAACAUAUGUGGAUCUGCUGGUUGGUCUAUGAAAAUUCAUAUAAGUUGUUAAAUUCUGUUAGGCUUGUGUAACGGUAUUUAGAUCAUAACAUCUUUCCCUAAGCCCGCAUUUUUCUAAAUAUAUAAUUAAAAUUGUUGUGUUUGCAAUUUUAAUGAAAUCUAGCAUUGGAUACUCAACUUCUCACAAAAUGACAAAAAAAAAUGGUGGUGAUUUCAUGGAGGCUAACCAUUCACCUACCUUUAGUCAAGGUUUUCAAGUUGUGUUACAAUAGUAAAGUAAUAAUCUCAAUCAAAACACAAAAUUUAGUUUUCUAAACAAUUAUUGUUCUUGGAAAACAUGCAAGGAAUUUAAGCAUCUUAAGGUACUUAAGCAAUCUUAGUUGGACAUUCAGUAUCCAGAUCUUUUCAUUAAUUGGUUUUUCUCUUUUUGUGCCAACAUCUGCUCUCUCUCUCUCCAACAUGCAAGCGUAAGUGGUAGGCACCUCUUUUGUGCUUUAAAUUAAUUUUUGAAGUAAUUUAAAUCAACUUAAAAGAUCAUAAGUCCCAUUGGAUAUGAUGUAUUGAGUUUUAGAUUUUUGAAGUAAAAUUAUCAACAUAGUCUAGAAUAUAUACUAAUAGAUUAUACUCUUUCCAAGAGUUUAAAUUGCUUUUUGUUAAUAGAUUAUAUGGAUGUUUUAACACAGAAAUUGGAAUGAAGCCAAAUAUGCAGAAAAAAGAAAUGGUUGUGACCAAUAGUUAUAUUUAAUCUCUUUUAUUUCUAUUGAUACUCAAAUUUUUAGGGAUAGAGCAUCAACAAUCCUUGUGAUGAAUUAAUAAUGUUGAUAAAAGUCAAUGACUACACAAUGUAGCUAGCUUAAAACCAAAUAUGUCAUUAAAGAAGAUAUCGAUAAUCACCCCCACACAAUGAUAUCUUGUAUAAUUCAUUAGUUGAAUCAAACACAAAUUUCGUUCAAUAUAUGUGUCUACGAGUAAAAGAGAGUUCUUGGUUUAUAUUCGACAUACACGCUAUAUAGGCUAUGCUAACAGCAAUUGAUAACAAGAAUCUCAACACUGAAGUCCAUGUAGAAUCAGGUGUCCACCAUAUUGGAGUUGCAUAGUUAGGAUAUUGAAAGGAGCAUGAGCAUAGGAUGGCGAAAGUUCAAAUAAGAAGUGUUGUAAGAUCAUUGCCAAAGCUAUUUUUGCCUCCAUCAUUGCAAAAUUUUGUCCAAUGCAUGCCUGAGGACCCCAACCAAAUGGGAAAAAUGAAACUUGGUUUUUUUUUGCCUUCGAAAUUCCUUCUGCAAGCCUCUCUGGGUUAAACUCCUUUACAUCAUCUCCCCAAAUUUCAUGAUCAUGGUGAACUAGGAUGGUGGGCAACGCAACCUGCACUCCAGCUGGAAAAUACAUGUCUCCCACUUGAGUGUCCUUAUAAACAGCUCUAGUAAGCAUUGCUACUGGUGGGUAUAACCUAAGAACCUCAUGAAAAAUCAUGGUAACCUGUGGUAGAGAAACUUUAUAAGUUGUAGCAUGAGAAUUCUUACUAAAAUACAUUCUAAUCAUUAUGCAGAACACUGAAGAAUAAAGCAAUUUCUUAAAAUAGUGAUGCAUAAGAGAAAAUGUUCUAAAUCAUGCAUGCCAAAAUAUCAAGUAUACAAAGGACAUUGCAUAUCCCAUGGAUAUAAUAACUUAAGAACCUCAUAAAAAAUCAUCAUGAUCUAUCAGAGAAAUUUGAAAUCAUGGCAUGAGAACCUGUUCCUGAGCUACUAAGUGAAAGCAAAUGUUUAGUACAAAAUAUAAAAACUUAAGAAAAAUGUGUUUUCAAUUUUACUCCAAUUUUGGGGAAAAAAAAUAGAGUACUAUAUGAUUUCAGUGAGAAUCACUAAACUGAAGAUUGGACUGAGUACUCACAAUUUUUAGGUGAUUUAAUCCAUUAGCUUCCAGUUUUUUAUUCCCAAAAACCUGUAAAACCUCUUCUCUUGCACGAGCUUGCCAAUUUGGAUUCUCGCUUAGCAGGACCAUUGUCCAUACAAGAAAAACUGAGGUUGUCUCUUGGCCAGCAAGAUAGAAUAUCUUACACUCUUCAAUGACCUCUUUGACACUCAUUCCAAUCUUCUUGUUAUUUUUAUGUUCUUGAAUUUAUCUAAAAUUGGAUUCCAUUAGUAUAACUAAUAAGUCACUAUUACCAGUUUUGUCAGCCUUCAUUGUCUUCUCCCUUUUGUUAAUGAUACCCCUCAGCAAUGCAUAUGCUUUUUUGCUUAUUUGCUUCAUCUUCCUGUUCGUCUUUGUGGGUAAAAACUUGUGCGCAUGUUAGUAAUUCUAGUAAAUAAAACAUCACAUGAAACACACAGACAUUAAUUCUUAUUUUCAUUCAUGCUUUUUACUUCUCCAUUAAUUUUUUGAAGCUUGUAUAAGGCUUCAAAGGUAGAAACUAUCAAGACAAUAACUAAUGGUUUCAUCUACACAUGUGUUGCAAUGGUAUAUCAUCAUCUUGACACAGUAUCCUGCCAACAUAAGAUUGAGGAUACUAAACAUCAAUUAGUGAAACAUACUACUUUCUAGGUGUUAUACAAAAGAAGUAAUUGACUAAAAGGGGAUGAAAUGAUCUCAUAUUUGUAAAUCUAAUAUCUCCUAUGCUUGACCGUGAAAAGUAAUCCAUUUUUAACAUAAAUUCCCUUCAACAUAUGAACCGAAAUUUGUGCUGGCAUCAUGUGUAGGUCAUGAAAUUUGGCUCUGAAAUUUGUUCAAUAAACUUAAUUUACCAAACAACACUACAAGGAAAAAGAUAUAUGGUGACAUUUAUAAUAAGUCACUAUAAACAUAGGGUGUCACUACAACAUAGCGUCACCUUAUCCACUGACACCAUAAAGGGUAUCAAUUGGUGACGUAUUUGGAAGCGACACCAAAGCAGAUAAAUGGUGACACAUUCAGAAGAGACACCAUAUAUUUUUAGUGAUGCUUAAUUUGAUAUAGAGUUGUAUGAGAUAUAUAAGGUGUCAUAUUAAAUGCAUCAUCUUUGAGUUAUGGUGUCACGUUAAAUGUAUCACCUUUAAUUUAUGGUGUCACAUCAUUGUAAAUGAUUAUGGAAAAUAUGGUUGUUUUUUGUUGAUUAGUUUGUAGAUUUUUGUAAUGCUUAUUAAUAAAUAAGACUAACCUGUGUAAAUUGUCCAUAAAUAUAAUAAUCAUAUUACAUUUAACUUAUAUUUUCAUAAUGCUUAUGAAUUAAUUUGUAACAUAUUACAUCAUCCAAUAAUAUUUGUAUAUCAAAUGUUCACAAAAUGAUAGUACAUCAAACACAUCAAACCCACCAAAAGGAAAAAAGAAAAGUGAAUACACAUUAAAACAUGAUUUAAANNNNNNNNNNNNNNNNNNNNNNNNNNNNNNNNNNNNNNNNNNNNNNNNNNNNNNNNNNNNNNNNNNNNNNNNNNNNNNNNNNNNNNNNNNNNNNNNNNNNGAAUAAGUAAUGUUAUACAAUAUCAAUGGAAAAUUCAAUCAUAUAACAACUAAGGGACUUACCAUGAAUGAUCACAAUACAUCAAUAUGAUUCAUGAUUAGUUAUAACACAAAAGUAAUCUAUUCUUCUCUAAUUUCAUCAAAUUCUACUUGAGAAUAUGUUUUAUUUGUCAUCAAACUGAAAUCAAAUGAGAAUAACAUUAAUAUCACAAUAAUUAAAAGUAUGAAAUUAUGUACAAUUCAUUAAAUGAGUAAAACCUUUGAUGCAAUUACUGUAAAAUCAACAAUUAUUUCUUUAAUGAAUCUCAUAACAAAGUAGUCAUAUUUGAACUUAGCAUUAUUUUUUUACUCUUAAAUUAUUUUAAAACAAAAUAACAAUUAUUAAUAUAUUGGUUCAUUUUUAAAUACUUUCACAAGAAUAUAUUUUAACUACGAGUUAUUUUAAUUUAUCAAAAGACUUUUAGGAAAUGAGCUAUUAUCCAUUUAUUAUUUUCUUAUUUUUCAAAAAAUAUUUUUAGUCAUUUCAUACACGUUUUCAACUACUAAAAUUAUUGUUUUUAUAGAAUAAACAAAGAAGCAUACACUUCUCCUCCACUCACUAAGUCAACUAUUACAAUCACCAUAAUAUUUUAUUCACCUACCAACAUCUCAUUCCAUUUAGAUAACUCUCUCAACAAAAUCAUUUCUACAAUACUUUUUACUCUCCUAUGAUAUUGAAUAUUUUAUUCCAUUUAGGUGACUCUCAACACAAAGAAAAGUAGGAAUGUCUUCUUAGGUUAACUAAACAAAGACUUUUUUUUUUUUUUUUACUUUACAAUAUGUAUAAAAAACAAUUAUUUAUUACAAGGAAUGUGGUAGAAAGGUCAUUUUAUUUUUAAAGAAUUUUUAAGAAUUUAUUAAACAUUUACAAAAAAUAGAAUCUAACAAUUUUAUUUCUAAAAAAAUUGAUCAAUUCAAAAAAGAAAGAAGAAUGUUAUUUUUUAAGAAAAGUUAAUAAACCACUUUAUUCUUGAAUUAUCUAAACAAAACUUACUAAAAAAUAUUUUAUCCCAAAUUUAUUUUCAAAACUUUCUUAUUGAAAACUAUCUCAUAUAUAAAUUAUUUUAUUAUAUAGAGAAAUUCUUAUUUUAUUCUUUUUUUAGAGAAAAAUUCACUUGUUUUUUAAAUAUCAAAGAAGUCUAUUUUUAUGUCUAUUAUAUAUAUAUAUAUAUAUAAAUUCUCUUAUUUUCAUACAAGAAAUUUCCAUUUAUGCCUAAAAUACUUUUAGAAAAAUCAUUGCCAACAAAAUUUUAUUUUUAAAAUUAUUUUCAACAUUCUUAUUUAAAAAAAUUAUCAUUGGAUUAUUUUCAAAAAAGACCGUCCUAAAAAAAUUAACCAUUUAUAACCCAAUUUAAACUCAAAAAUUAUCCCCAAUAUUAUUUUAUAUUCCUAAAUUAUUUUCAAACAAAAUAACAAUUAUUAAUAUUUUGAUUCAUUUUUAAAUACUUUCACAAAAAUAUAUUUAAACCACAUAUUAUUUUAAUUUAUCAAAAUAUUUUUAGGAAAUGUGCUAUUUUCCAUUUAUUACUAUCCUAUUUUUCAAAACAUAUUUUCAGGCAUUUCAUUCACAUUUUAAAUUUCAAAUACUAAAAUUAUUGUUUUUAUAAAACAACAAAGCAUGUAAAUUUCAACUACUAAAAUUAUUGUUUUUAUAGAAUAAACAAAGCAACAUACACUUAUCUUCCAUUUACUAAUUCAACUAUUACAAUCACCCCAAUAUUUUGUUCACCUACCAAUAAUUCAUUCCAUGUAGGUGACUCUAAAAAAAAAAAGUCAUAUUUAUAAUACCCUUUACCACUCUGAUACCCAAUAUUCUAUUCCAUUUAGGUGACUCAAUACAAAGAAAGUGGGAAUGUUUUCUUAGGUUAACCGAAGAAAACCCUAAAUAACUUAAGUGCUUUUGGAUUAAUUGAGCAUCAUCUUGUAGUAGAUGUCAAUCUCUAUUGUUAGACUUCACCAAAAAGCUCCUAGCACGGUGGAAAAAAGUAUCAAAUAUAGUCAAGUCUUCAAUAAAAUAUUUUCACAUGUGAAAAAUUACAACCAAUACACUAUAUAGUCAAGUCUUCAAUAAAAUAUUAUUUCAUACGAAAAAUUACUACAAACUAGUGUAUCUCUCAUUCUCAAUUAGACAUAAUUUUUAAAAAUAAUUCCUUUUUUUUUUUCAUUUGUUUUGGGGCUUAUUAGCAAUGAAACAAAAAAUAUGUUAGAAUGUUAAACCUAGUUUUUACUUCCCUGGAACUUGAUAAAAAACACCAUUUACAAAACCCACAUCAUAGAUAUACUUAAUCAAGAGAUAUAAAACAAUUAUACUAACAAAGUUUUUUGCAUUAAUAAAAAAAAAUGAAGAUGAUAGAUAAGAGAUUUGGACUUACCCGAGAUUUUACGAAGCAAAGAAUAUCAAUUAUGGGUGUGCCGACCAUGGGUGUGAGAAGAAGGAGAAGAAAACGAUGGUUAGGGUUAAGCAAUAAGAUCUUUUAUAUUAGUUAAUGUAUAUAUGGAAACAAUGGACUUUUCAUAAAUUGUUCCUACUUACUAUUUUUAAAAAGGGCCCAUUGAGUUAUAAAAUUUAAAACUUUUUAUUUCAUAUGGUGUCACUUCCAAAAAAUGACACUGUAAAUCUGAAAUUAGCAUCAUCUAACUAUCCUAAUUGAAGAUUUUUUAUAUGAUGUGUCACCUUUAUAAAUUUUAAGUUCAAUGGUGUCAUUAUUUUAAAUGCGACACCAUAAAUAGUGACAUCAUAAAUUAUUUUUGUAGUAGUGCAAGAAACGAAUAAAGAUCUAUAUGGAUAUGAAAUCAACAAUUAUCUUAUGAAAAAAUCUAGUUCUCCAUGAUGGAAGCCAGUAUAUUGAUACAAAAUAUAAUUUAUUAGAGAGUACAUUAUGAAAUAUGAAAUGCAAUUAAAAUUUACAAAAUGUCAUGAUCAAAUUGUGAAAACAUUAACCAAGUCUCUCAAGUAUAAAGAUUUUAGAAAGCUAAGGAUGCUAUUUUUACAAAUCAAGUUGAUGGGAGGAUGUUAGUUAAACUAGAUUUAGAAAGUUUCUAAAAAUUAGAUUUUGAGUUAGGUAUUAAAAGUUAAUUAAAAUAUUUUAUACAGAAUUCUUGAUUUAGUUUGUAUAUUUUGUUACUGCAAGAUUUUAUAUUUUACUAUCGUGAGUAUCUAUUCUUUUUAGGUGUUAGUAUCUAUAAAUAAGAUGUUAUGUAAUAGUUGAUCAAGUGUACAGGUGGACGACAAUAAAUUUUUUCUUAAUCAUCUCAAUUAUUUAUUUAUGUAAUUGCUUGUGUGUUUUUUCAACCACAUUGCUGCAACAUAGGUGAAUCUGUUAGUUGGUCUAUGAAAAUUCAUAUCAGUUGUUCAACCUUUUAAAUUCUAUAACGUAUGUAGAUUAUAGCCUCUUUCCCUAAGCCUGCAUUUUUCUUUCAUUUCAUGGUGUCAACACUUGAGGAAAGCAAAAUUUCCUAAAAUGGAAUAUGGUGUGCAAGGAUCCAGUGACUUAUUAGGCAUCUAAACAUGGUGGCAUUUAUUUUUUUGGCUUUUUGCUAAAAGCAAUUUGCUUUCAAAAUUUAGGUUGUUUGUUUUUUUAGUUUUUGAUGACUUAUUAUUGAAUUUUUAAAAUUUUUGGCUAAAUUGAGCACAAACAACUGACAUAAAAAUUCAUCUAAAAGUUUUCAAAAUUUUUGCUAAAACGUUAUAAAUUAACACUUGAAAAAAAAAUAGUACUUUUCAAAGUGGAAGUAUAUUAAUUUCUUGAUAAAAGAAAUUGCAAUAUUGUUAGCAAAGAUUAAGAACUACCACUGAAAUCUAAACCUUUGGUGUAAUUUAAAAAAGAGGGAAAAAAAACAAAAAGGAAAAGAAAAAUAAUUAGGAAGAGAAGAGCAGAAAACAAACAACUGCUUUAGGGCAGUAUAAAAAAGUUGGCCAUAAUUUGAAGAGAUCAGCAAACUUUAAUACUAUGAUGAAAAGUAAUAACUCAUAUCGCUAACGUAUUUCUUAAUGAAAUGACAACGGAAGGGCAGGACACGCGGGGCAAUAUCAUCAGAGAGGCUGAUUGGUCUUGAAUAUGCUUCUUUUAAUAUCAUGGACAUUUCUUUGAAGUCCCCAUGUAAAAGGCUAUAAGAAUUCUCAGCCAGGCCUUACUCUCUAAGGCAUCUUUCUAACCUCUAUGGCCUCAACCACACCCAAUUCAAUAGCAUCCAUAAACAGCUUAUGAACACAGUAAGGAACCCAAAAGAAAUUGCAACUGAGUUAUGCUUCAUUUCCAGGUUGAGGGACUUCUAUCAGGAGAGGUAUGUUAAAUCACUUCAGAGUGAGAAAAUGACUUUAUGCUGCCGAUGUGUAUAAAUUGGCCGCUAUUCUAUUCCCUCGUGUCGGCAAACAUAGAAGAGUUCGUCAAUACCUAAUGGAGAGAAGAACUUCUAGUAUUUUAAAAUCUAUAAAUUAUCUAUUUUAAUUGUCUCCAUCAAUAUGGCUUUUAAACUUCUCAAUGAAUUAUUAAUUUAUUCUAUUUGAUACAUUUCAAAGUUUGUGCAAUCAUCACUGCUUAUUAAAAACUAUAUAUGCCAUGAAUGUAGAAGGCAAAAUUUGAGCAUACAGAAUAUGGAAUUCUAUUUGAUGGACCAGCUUUCACUUGUGAGUCGAUGGAGCAUGUGGAUGCUCACUUUCAGAGAGUCAAGGGGCAGCUCGCAUCCCUCACAUCUUGGAAGAUGUCGCAGGGUGCUUCCAGCUCUACAACUCCAUCUGAUCUGGACUUUUUGAUACUUUAUGUUUUUUUUUUUUUUUUGGUGGAUAAGCUUAUUUUGUACACCUAACCCAUCUUGGCUCAGUUUAUCAUAUAUUUUGUUUGUCUAGAUGUACUUUUAUUUUCUUAUCUCUUGUAUCCAAAACCUUUUUUAUCAUAUAUGUCCAUGUGUUUGCUUUUCUUUUCUUCUUUUUGUAUGCUUACUGCUUCAUCAUGCUUUUUGUCAUUUUUUUUGCAACAAAAAAGGGGAAAUGGAUUGUUGAUUUGAUUGAGUGUUUUGAUAUUCAUAUUUUUUUGACAUCUGUUUCAUGACUUGCAUCCCCUUACUCGUUUACCUGAUUUGAUAAAAUUGAUCAAUUAUCUUUCUUCCCACACACUACUUUACCUGGGUAUGUUGUUUAGUGUGUGCAAGUUCUAGGUACUAGGGUGUUGGUCAUUUUUUGGAUGUGGCUUCUAGUCCUUUGCACGAUAGAUGAUGAAUUGGUUUAGACAAGAGGUAUUGAGAGAGAUUUGUAAACUCCAUUUCAGAGUAUUGAGGGGUUUAUGCAAUUUGUAUUUUAUCACAAAAUUGCCAAAGGGAGAGAUUGUUCGUACAUUAGGUGAUGUAGUUUAAAAUUGUCAAUUUUGUUCUAUUCAUUUUGGUUUAGGAUCUUUCUAGAUUGUGUUUCAUUCCCCAUUGAAGACUCAAGGUUAUUAAUUGAUCAACCAAGAUUACAUAGGUAAGUGUAAAAAGAUUUAGGAAAGGGAAGUUAGUGUUUGGUAUGACAUGGCAUGGAUUGAGUGGUUUAAAAUUGAGCAAAAUGAUUUUCUAAUUGGGUUUAAAAAAUGCUUAAAGUGCUCAAGCACUCUAAGAGCAUUUGAGCUCUAGAAAAAAAAUUCUCUAGAAUUUUGGAGAUCUGUCUUUCUAUUUUUAAAGGAUUUAUUUUGAGGAACUUUUUAGAAUUAGUCCACUAGGUUCCUAAGCUUAAAUAUACAUUGCAUAAAAAGGUUUUUGGUUUGAUGCUUUUGAGUUGAAAAACCUAGUUUUUCUUAUUGUUUCCAAAAUUAUAGAAGAAACAUUCAUAUUUACUUCUGCCUAGUUGAGAAGGAGAUUUGUAUCCCCCUCAAGUGCUGAAGUGAGAUCCUCUAUGAGCACAUGAGAUGUUGCAUUGUGGACGCAAAACACAGUGUAGGUGUUAGGUAGUAAGUCUUAGUAGUAGCUUUCAUCAGGUAAAAUUGAGUACAUACCUCAUUAUAUAUGAUGGACAGCUCCUCAAAUGCAUAUCCUACAAUCAAAAUCAAUUGAUUCUAAAUUAACACCCAACCCAUAUUUCAAACAAAAUCUUGCAAUUUCACAUUUUGAGCACCAAUCCAUGAAAAUGGUGUUUUUGGGGAGAAAAUUCAAUUGAUUUAGGAGCAUAUUAGAUCUUACCCUUCCCCUCUUGAGACUUGAGACUUAGGAGUAACCUAUUUUCAGAUAGAUUCAAUAUCACUAAUUGAUUAAUUUUUAUGUACAAUAUGUUUUUCUAAAUUUUUAAAAAUUCCAUCCUUUUAAUUCUAUUAGAAUAACGUAAAUCAUAUGGAAGUUAGAUUCUAAAUCUCAAGUCUUCACAUCAUCAAGUAUCAACUAUAAGAACUCAAACUCAACACUUUAGUGGCUCUAAAGAGUCUAUUUUAGUGCAUUUGAGGUAUUUAAAAAUGACCUAAUGCUUGGUUUUUUUGUUAUUAAUGCCUUAGCCAUUUGUUUUUGAUAUUUUUUUGUGAGUAUUUUUAGAACUUUAAAGUAUUUUGAAAAUGAAGUGGACUUUGUGGAGGAUUCUCAAAGAAUAAAAUGCCUAAGUAGAGAGCAAGAACAAAUUGUAUACCUUUUAAGUACACAGGAUUCUAUUGUGCAUCUCGCUAGUGUGCCACCAAACUAGAUUGCACAUUCCCUCUAACAAUUUAAAUUGAGCACCUUCCCUAUGAUUCAAAGGUUGCAUACCCCUCAACAAUUGAACCUAACAAGAGCACUCAAGUUGUGCAUGUCCAUAACAUCUUAAUUGCACUUUUCCCUACCGCUACAGUAGUUUAUCCCUAGGGUCACUCACCAUGCAAUGUCACACCCCAAAACCCACUCCAAGGGCAUGAAGAUCUUUUCACAGCUAGCUCAAGCCCAAGGGCUUAAAGUGGAAACAACACAAACAUUUGUAUUGUAACUGAAAAUUUACCAAUUACCAAAUUCUUGUUCAAAGUAGUAGGACAAAAUUCUAAAAUCUCCAAGUAUCAACUUGAAAAAAAAAACUAAUACAUCAACCAAAGUGUUAUUGUCCAAAUAACUUUCAACUCAAAAUAAUUCAAAUGAGAAUUAAGCUUUAACAUCUAAACAAUGUCCAAAAUAAAGAGAGUUUAAACAAAUGUUAUAACAAAGCCAAAUUUCCCUCUUAAUGGUCACUCCUUGCCAGAACUGAGGUUGCCUAAAAGAUUAUCAAUGAAGAGAGGUAAGCUCAAAGGCCAAUAAGGAACAUUAAUACAAUUUUAUGGAUCAACAUUUUCAAUUAUGCUUGCAAAUAGGAGAUAUAACAUAUACUUAUUUUCAUAAAAACUUUUGAGUUCAAAAUGCUAAUACAUUCAAACUUUUCAACAAAACUUUCUCAUAUCCAUUUCAAAACAAUUUCUCAUCAAACCAAAUCAAAUACAUUCAAAAUAUCUUUACUCCAGUUAUCGUGUGACAAAUGGUGCCCAAUUAGGUGGGACUUUGCAAUUGAGUAACUAGUUUCAAAUUUGUUCCAUUUAAGGUGAACAAAACCAAAUGUCAAGAAUUAUAACCCAUUGACUAAGGUCAUAUAAUAUCAACUAUUAUAACCUGUUGACUAGGGCCAAAAAUGUCAACUAUUAUAACCCGUUGACUAAGGCCAUAUAAUGUAGAGAGUCAAAUACUUUAUUUCAUUAAUUCAAACUUACAAAACAAAACAUCAUAUCUCAAAUUUUCAUUUUUCAUAAACAAAGAAAAUACUCAAAUAUACUUUCCAUACAAGACAUAUAUUUGAUCCGUGCUUAAAGAUAAAAAUAAUAUUUUUAAACAUUUCAAAAUAUAAUAUAAAAAGAAAACUAUUUUCUUUUACAAAAAUCUGCAUUAAUUUCCUUUACUUGAAUAAGCACUCAAAAUCUUGAAGUAUUUAGCUUUGAAGAAUUUCCUCCUCACCUAACAUAAUAUCAUACACAAUAUUGAUUAUUGAUUAUUUAUCUAAAUAUAUAAAUUUGACAAUCCUAAAAAUAUUUUAUUUAGUAUUAGGGAUCCUAAUUAAUUUCUCAUGUUAAUAUUAUUACCAUCCAAUAUUAUUUUCAACUUCCUAAACAAUAAUUUAUUUCUCUUCUCUAACUUAUCUAAAUUAAAUCUUUUAAGAAUAUUUAUUUGCAUUAAACAUUAUUACUAUUAUUUAAAUCUCCUACUAAAACUUAACAAAUACCCCAUGCAAUUCUUUAUUUUUUUCCCAACAACUCCACACCAACUCCAUUCAUUAUUAUUAUUUCUUUUAUUAUUAUUAUUAUUAUUAUUAUUACUAAUUUCAAUACCCAAUAACACCUUAACCUAUUUCUCUUCCAAGCCAUCAACGUCCUUUUCUUCCUCAUCGUUUACCAAAAUACUAUUUACUUCCUUUCCUAGGUCAACGUGCUGACCAAUCCUUAGUUUUUUUUUUUUCAACAUGCCAAAUCCUUCCUACCUACAUGCAUCUUUCAUCAUUUUUUUCUCCUCUCUAAGGUCAAAACUUUUAAUCUCCAUACUCACAAAUUUUAUGUAAUUUUCACAUCUGAAACUAUAUAUAUAUAUAUAUAUAUAUAUAUCUAGAUCUAUUCGUUUGAGUAAUCAAAAUUUGUCGAUCUCCAUUAAUAAAUCAAACUAUGUUCAUAUUUUUUUUAUCUUUUUGACCUAGAAAUUAAUUAAAUGAACUCUAAUCAAAAUUGAAAUAUUCCAAAGAAUAUCUAAAGUGUUCAAAACUAAUUAACAAAUAUAAAAUAUUAAUUUAAGGAUUAAAAAUCUUACUUGAAAAAUUGAUCUUCAAAUCAUAAACCUCCAAAUCUUCAACCGUAUGCUCUCUAAUAUUUCAAAUCUUUAUGUAAAAGGGUUUUCUGAAUAGAGAGGAUGGGAAAAAUCUAAUUUAUACCUAGGAGUUUUAAAUACAAAAAGACCUUUUUACCUUUAUUAAAUUACUUAAUUUAAUUAUUAAUUUCUAAAUUAUGAUUUUACCCCUAAAUUGGGUUUAGGGCAUUACAUUCACACUGUUCCCACUCUUGCAAAGGUUGCACACCUGAGAAAACUCCUUCCAAUGAUUUGUACACUCACCAAAGUAAUGCAAGCAUCUAAGCCUUAAGUCAUCAUCUAUACUAUCAAUUCUCCCAUACCGAUUGCAUUGAAAGCCAAGUGCAGCCACCAACUCCAAGCUGACAAGUCAAGUACAAGAAAGAUGGCUAGUUGACUACAUUGACACAUGAUAUGAUCCCCAACAUGAGCAAGAGGCAGUUCUAGGAGAAUAGUUUGAGCAAUAAGAAUGGAUUACCUAAAGGGAAACCCAUCUAUAAAUAGAGGAUUGUCUGGGCACGCGUGCGCAUACACACACACACACACACACACACAUAUAUAUAAAUAUGUAUGUAUGUAUGUAUGGGGAGAAGAAAAGAAAAGAAAAAAAGAAUGUUGAAGAGUUUGAAUCUUUAAUGGAGAUGAUAUUAACCUUUUUAGGAUUUAGUUAGGAAUUUAUUUUGGUAAUUAAAAUGACAAUUAAUUAUUUGGAUAGGAUUUGUUAGGUAGUUUCCUACUUCUUUCCAUAUAUUUUCCUUAUGUUUGUAGGUUUCCUACAUUAUAUAAAUAGAGGACAUUUUCUCUUCUUUUCUCUAUGAAUGAAUAUAUGACUAGGUAAAAUUAAGCUAUAGGUUUCUUAAUUGUAUCAAAGCCAAAUUCUUAUUACUAGGAAUAAUGGUUAAAAUUACAAUGAUAGGUGCUUCCAAUUAUGAUAACAACUUGAAGGAGGCAGAAAGAAAACCUAUCCCUCAUUAGAAUUUUGUGACCAAUGGUCAUGGUCACUCUUCUUAGCUAAUUACCUCUCACAAACUAACUUAAUGGAGAAAAUUAUCUUGAAUGGUCUCAAUUUGUCUAACCUUUCAUUCGUGGGCAUGGACAAAUUGAAUAUUUUAUUAGAGUAACAUCAAUACCACAAGGAACAAUUCUCAUCGAGACAUAGGAAGUAGAGAAUGCCAUGAUUAUGUCAUGGUUGAUCAACUCAAUGGAACUCAAGAUUAGGAAGACAAACAUGUUCAUGCCCAUAACUAGAGAGAUCUAGGAGGCUACCAAGGAAACCUAUUACAACUUGGUAAUUUGCUCAAGUCCACAAGAUAGCCAUACAAGUAAAAAAUACCAAGCAAGAUAAUAUGAAUGUAAUUCAAUACUAUAAUACACUCAAAACUCUUUGGUAAGAACUUAAUUUGUUCUAUGAUUAUGAAUAACAUUGUGCACAUGAUAGUGAAAUGUUCUAAAAGAUAUGAUUGAGAAGGAUCGAGUAUUUGCAUUCCUAAUGGGGUUUAAAUAAUAAAUUAGAUGAGGUUUAAAGUAGAAUUCUUAGUAGUGAAUAAUUCUAGCAAAAUCUAAUACCUCUUUACUUAACAUUACCCUAGUUGUAAAAAAACAGUAAGCUUCACAUUUCGACCAAUGAUCCAAAAUUCAAAAGUAUUCAUGGAAGGCCCUAGUGUGACCGUCAUCUCCUCUAAAUGCUUCCAGAAUUCAAAAUAUUCAUUGACAAGUGAUUAACCAUCAUCUUUUCCAAAUGCAUCUUUAGAUGUCAUAUACCCAAAGGUGUUCAAAUUCACAAGAUAUUGACCAAGUCUAGAUAUUAAGAAGGUAUAUGAUCCUCUACCAUUAGAAAGAAUAAGAUACAUUAUCCUCUACUAGUGAAAGCACAUAUGUCAUCAUAUCAACAAAUCAAGCAUGCGUGCAAAUCUAUCUUCUUGGUCUUCUAAUUGUGGUCAAGCAAGUAUUAAUGAAGUACUUAAUUUGAAGCAUCUCUUUAUCAUCUAUAGUGGUUGUAGUUGCUAAUCCAAUAAUUGUACUCCUUUAAAAGUGGUACAAAUUAUUCUUCCUUAUUCCUUGCAUCACGACAAGUUUACUUGGCAUAACUUUCAAAAUCCCAUCUUUUAUAGUAACAAUAUUGAACCCUAUGGGUUCUAAUACUCCAAUUGAGAUGAGACACUUAUUCAUACUAGGAACAUACCAAACAUCACUCAAAAUUUUAGUUGAUUCAUCGUGAGUCUUCAACUGGAUGGUAUUUAUUAUUGUUAUCUCAUAAGCAUUAUCAUUCCCCAUGUAAAUAACUCCAUCUUGUAGUUCUUCAAAGCAAGAAAACCACUCCUUGUAGGAAUGCGUGUCAAGGUGGACCCAAUAUCCAAAAUCCAUUCAACUAAGUUAUAAAACAAGGAUAAGCAAACCAAAGCAAAGUUUGACCCAUCUUUUCCAAACUUAGCCACACAAGCAUCGAAUACUAUUUCUUCUUUAUUCUUAUUCUGUAGCUUAGGACAAUCAUUAUUUUGACACUACCAAAACUUAAGUAUGGUUGACCCAUUUACAUUUAAUUUUCUAACAUAUUUAAGCUGACGGAAAUUUAUAAUACACCUAUUCCAUCGCAAAUUGAAUUGUCCGUCACUUAUAUGUAACUAUUUACCAACAGUAAUUGCAACAACAAAUACUUGUCGGCAAAAAUAUUAUUGCAAUGGAUUUAAACCAUUGCAAAUGUUCAACUAAUAUACUUUGUCACAAGAGCAAUUUACCUAUAAAAUAGAAAAAUAAAAAACAAACUUUCAAAAAUAAUUUUUUCUAUGAAAAUUACUACUCACUAAAACAGUUUUAUUAUAGUGGAUAAUAAUACCACACAUAAUUUGUUCCAAAAAUAAUUGUAGUUAUAUGAAUAUAAAAUCUUUUCACCAUGGUUUUAUGAUAAAUACGAUCUAGCUAGUGACAAAACAAUUUUAUGAUUAUUUUUUAGGUUCAUACAAUAUUUACAUUUUUUUUAAUCAUAAUAGUUUUAACUACUUUUUAUUGUCCAUUUUAGAAAGAAAUAAAUUAAAAAUUAUUGACAUAUAUAUAUAUAUAUAUAUAUAUAUAUAUAUAUAUAUAUGUAUGUAUGAUAUAAUUUAUGAUAUCGAAUAAUAAUAUUUAAAAUUUAAAAAUAUAUUUUAUAGAGAUUUAUCUAAUUUGAAUGUAUUCAAUAACAUAAAAAAAUGAUAGUACAUGUAUAAGUAUUUUUAUUUUAAAAUGUUGAUAAUUUUAUUUAUAAAUUUAUAUUUAAUUAUUAUACAAAAUAAACAAGAAUCAAAAUUAAUUAAUUUAUAAUAAUUUUAUUUUAACUAAUUUAUAAUUUAUAUAUAUAUAUAUAUAUAUAUAUAUAUUAAUUCAUGCAUGUAUAAUUUAUAUAUAAUAUGUAUUUAUAUAUAGAUAAUAUUUAUAAUAUAAAUGCAUAAGUAUAUAAUAUUUACAUUUAUGAAUCUCAUAUACAUUCUUUAUAUUACACAUAAAUAAGAUGACUUGGUGGCAUAGUUGCUUCCUUUCAAACUUGAGGUCAAGGGUUCAAUCUCAAGAAACAACAUCCAAGUCAAUAUCCAAAAUUAGCAAGGAGAGGAGUGUACAAGAUGCUCCAUGUGAAUGUAAUGAAAUCGAAAUUUCAUGACAACCUAAAAUCUUUUAUUAUUUAUAUUUCUCAACCAACUUAAUUUGUUGGUAAUAGUGAUGGUCUAAAUCCAUUGGAUAGUUUGUCACUAAAUAUUUUUUAUUGGCAACGGAAAAUUCCCAUCAAUGGACUUUUGCCAACACACCUUUCCUCGACUACCAUGCGAUGGGAUUAUUGAUUGGUAAAUAUUUAUUUCGACUGUGUAUAUUAGUUGAGAAAAGUCAAAUUUCUUGUAGUGCGGUGACCCUUGUCAUGAAAAAAGACGCAUUCAUCUUUUGCAAGUAUACAUUUAAAUUAAGAAUUGUCUUCUUUUCUAAGUUUUCAACUUUGAGAUUAGUCAUUAACUGUUAAAGCUUCCAAUGAUAUAUCUCUAUGAUCGCUUUGGUCCUUCUUCCUUUAUUCAUAUAUUUGUCCUCCAAUGUCUUCCAUAAAUGUUUUUGUGGAUAUCUCUUUCAUAAUGGAAUAAUUUUAAGCUUUAACAAGAUAUAAGUGGAUGGAACUAUAAAAUUGACAAUUGAUCCCUUACCCAUUCUUUAUCAUUCAUGUUUUCAAGUUUUUCUUCCAAAACAAUAUCCAAAUCCUAUUGACAUAUCUAAUUAAUGCCUCUUACUGCCACAUUCCAAAAGUACUAGUCCUAUCAAAUUUAUCUAUUAUAAAUUUUGCAUUAGUAACCAUAGUUUUAACUAACGAAGUUUUUACCUUUUCUUUUAACUAGUGCAAUAAAAAAUAAUCUUGAACUAAUCUUGAAACCAACCUUGGAUAGAACUAAUGCUCUUAUACCAUUUUGUUGUGCUUUAACCUAAUCCCACAUGCAAGACUUCCAAAAGUACCAAAUAAAAUACAAACUAAACUAGUCCAUAAUAUAAAGAGAAAUAUCAAGAGAAAUAAAAAUAAAGGAGGGUACACAAUAUUUAUGAGGUUUAGUAACGAUGUCUUACCUAUUUCACCGAACAAUGAUGAUCAAUCUACUAAUCUUCAAAUCAAAAUUACAAAAUCAAGUUGUGAAAGAUUGUCUCACAAAGUGGCUGCAAUUACAAAGAUUGACUGAAGCUACUCUAACAACUUUGCUAAAGUCAUUCUUACACUACUAUGAUGAAAAGACUUAAGACUCAUUUAUAGAACCUAAAUAAGUCCUCGAGCCUUGACAAAACUAAUUCAUAGUUCCUAUGGGACAAGGACUCCUAACAUAUAACAAAUUAUGAAAUCAUAAUCCUUAUAGGACAAGGAUCCCUAAAAUAUAUUAAACUCUUAAUUAAGCUAAAAGCCAGUACCUAAUAUAGAACCUAUACCAUAUUUGCUAUAACUCUACUAAGUAGAUGGUUGUUAAGAAGUAUUAUCACUUUCAAAAGUUAAAUAAUCAUUUAUUUUUCCUUCCCUUUCCACUUUUCUUAUCAUCCAGACAACAACAGUAAAAAAUGUAGUGUAACUUUUGUUACUUUGCUACUUGUUCUCUCAACUUACUUGCUUGCUUGUGAAUGACCUCCAUAAUCAAAGUAAAUGGAGAAAAAAUGUGGAGUUCCAAGAUAUAGGUAGAAAAGAGUGGAAAAAACCUUAGUUCUAUAAAAUAGUUUGCAAUUUUGUCUCUAGAUCUCUCAUUUUCGUGGUAAUGGCCAUUGAAGAUGUCAUCACUGAGAAGAUCACAAAGUGAAGAAGGCAUGACUGAGGGUUGGUAGUAUAGAGAGUUAAGGUAGAAAAUAGCAAAGAUAGGAUUUUGACGUUUUUAGAAUUUGUAAAUAAAAAAUAAAUACAAUCCAAAAAUCACUUUUAGAACAUGAUUUUACCUAACCAUGCCAAACAUAUUUUUUGUUAUGUGGAUUGUAUUUGAUGUUCUCAAAAACAUUGAAUACAUUUUGGAUUGACUAUUAAACACGACCUUAGUAAUUAAAUUAGCAUAUUGAUAAAUUAUCAAGAGGCUCUUAUCAAUUUGGUCAACUCUUAGAAAAGUGUUGUUGAAAACACUAAAUACAAUCUAUAUAUAUAUAUAAAAAAAUGAAACAUGAAUUUACUUGACCAUACCAAACACAUUAUUUUUUAUUUGGAUUGUGUUCAGUAUUUUCAAAAACACUAAAUACAUGCAGUUUGAUUGACUACUGAACAUGAACUUAGUAAUUAAAUUAGAAAUUUCAAAUGAAUUAAUGUCUUCUAUUUUGCAAGCAAGUCAAGAUUUUAUGUUUUCUACUAAAAUUUUAAAUGCAUCACUAAAAGUAACAUCACCACUUUCUAGUUAUAAAGUUUUGAGAAGAUAUUUUUUAUCAACACAUAUAGUUGUUUGCUUUCAUGUCAAGAUACCAAAUACUUUUUUCGUAAAAUUUUUCCUUUUUAUGCAACUAAUAAAGUGGGGUUUUUUUCUUGAUUCAUUUUUUAACAUAGUUUUCCAUUCUACACUGUUAAUAUACCAACACUUUUCAUUUUUUCUUGAAUUUUGGAUGUUCCUUCAUUGUAUGAUGGACAAUUUCCUUAGCCACAACCAUGAUGACCAUGACCAUGACAAUGAUUAUUUUGGCUUCCUUCAUACCAAAUUUUUUUCCCCUCUUGUUGAUAUAUUAAACUAUGUUGACAAUUUUCUUUUAUUUAUAUAGUGAGUCUAAUACAUCAUACUUCCAAGGGUCAUAUUGAUGUCACUCAACUUCAAGCUACUUUUGAGUUAACUAUAUUACAAGGUAUAUGUGCAACAUUAGGUUGAAUUAAGGCACAAGGAAUGGCUACCACAUGUAUGCUAGGUGAAAUAUUAGAGUUUUUUUUUUUUUUUUUGUCAAGGAUAAGGAUUUGAGUAACUAAAGCCUCAAUAAAGUCUUUAAGAUAUCCAUUAAGGAACACAAGGAGUGUUGCAUGGGGGCGUGGAAGAAGAAUAUAAGUUAUGUGUAUCUUGUCUUUAUAUUUAGUAGAUUGUUUGUGGUUGAUAAACUAUUCAUGUAAUGACCUGCUCCCAACCGUGUAGAUAUUGUCCACUUUGGACCUAAAGGGGCCCUCACGGCUUUAAAAUGCCUUUAUAGAGUUAAGAUAAGUCCAUACUUAUAUAGCGCUAAGAAAUUUCCCCCCUAUUUGAUGUGGGAUGUUAGAAACACCCCCUUCCCUAUGUAGACACAACGUCCUCGUUGUGUCCUAUGGGAUUGUAGGGCCAAACAAAUGAACACCCCUACAAGGCCAAACAAACCCUCAAACCGAGGUUGAAGAUCGGCUUUGAUACCAUUUGUAACAACCCAUUCCCAGCCAUGUAGAUAUUGUUCGCUUUAGGCCUAAAGGGGCCCUUACGACUUUAAAACACAUCUACGAAGUUAAGAAAAGUCCAUACUUAUAUAGCGCCAAGAACUUCCCCCCUAUCCAAUGUGGGAUGUCACAAACACCCCCAUCCCCCACCCCAUUAUAUAAAUAUAUUAUUAUUAUUAUUAUUAUUAUCAUUACUUUCAAAAAACCCUACAACACCAUUACUCCAAGCCACCAACUACACUCAUUAUUAUUAUUAUAAUAAUAACACUUUUUUUUUCUUUUGUUUCUUCCUUCAUAGACGUCCACAUGCAUUUUUUUUUUCUUUUUAGUUUGUUUGUGACAUCCCACAUCAGAUAGAGGGAAAGUUCUUGGCGUUAUAUAAGUAUGGACUCCUCGUAACCCUGUAGACGUGUUUUAAAGUCGUGACGGCCCCUUUGGAUUCAAAAUGGACAAUAUCUACAUGAUUGGGAGCGGGUUGUUACAAAUGGUAUCAAAGUCGAUCCCCAACCUCGGUGAGGGGUUUGUUUGGCCCUGUAAGGGUGUUUGUAUGUUUAAACCCACAAUCCCGUGGGACACAACGAGGACGUUGUGUCUGCAUGGGUGUUGUUUGUGACAUCCCACAUCAAAUAGGGGAGAAAGUUCUUGGCGCUAUAUAAGUAUGGACUCCUCAUAACCCUGUAGACGCAUUUUCAAAUUGUGAGGGCCUAUUUGGGUCCAAAGAGGACAAUAUCUACACGGUUGGGAGCGGGUCGUUACAUACACAUAAAUUUCAUGAAAGUCUUGCAACAUAUAAGGGGUAGGCCUUGAAGUUACAGUGAUAAUUUAUUCCACUAAAAAAUUUGAUCUCUACAUUGAUAUCAAAUUUUUUUUUUUUUUUGGGAGUAAUAGGGAUAAAUACACAAAUAAUAGUACUAUUAAAAGAGAUAAGUAGAUGAGGAAAUUAAAAGAAAUUUAUUGUGUUUUAAUACAUUAAUUGAAGUAUUAUAUACACAACUCCAAUUACAAUAUGUUUUAAUACACUUUUAAAAACCAAAUCAAAUGUAAUUUUUGAAAACUUCUUGAAACUCAAAUUUAGAUUUCAACGUGUGAUUGAAUGAUAGGGAUGAAAAAAAAUAGGUAAAUAAAACAUAUGUAAUAUUAUUGUAUAUUAUUAAUCGCUUCCAUACCAUUAGCAUAUCAAUGGCAUCUUGCUAAGAAGAAGAACCACCACAACAAUCCAUUAUAAUAGUUUCGGAAUGAAUGACAUUUAUUUGUUUGUAUUCUAUUGUUUUUCUAUUUACGUCAUAUUCACAUGAAUUGACUUUUUGUUUAGAGUAGUGUUUUAGUAGAGUAUUCGUAGUACACCUAGAUAUCUUUCUAUGCUAUCAUAAAGUAGCUGAUUGCCCAUGAUUAUGCAAUGCCAUCAUAAAGGAACUGAAUGGCCAACACACGUACAUGUGAGGUACCAUAUUUUUUAAGAAAGACAAGUCAGUUUGCAAUUGAUGUUAAUAUCUUUCCAAGGCAGAAACAUCAUUUUGUAGGUAUAAUUGAAUUAGUUAAACUCAAACCCCAAUUGACAUUCUUUCAAGUAAAAUCAUUUUUAACCUAUAAUGCUCAACACUUUUAUGAGAAUCAUAAAAGUAUCAGAAUCAUAGAGAAUUAUUGAAAGUGAUUUUGUAGUGUUGUUGAUAAUAUGUCACAUGACUAUAAAAAUGCUUUUAAUAUUAGCAAAUUAUAAAAAAGGACAUCAAAUUUAAUUACAAGGAAAUAUUAUAAUAAACUAAUACUUUUUCGUGAUAAAAGAAUAUAUAAACAUUUAUAGUAAAAGAAUAUAUAAACAUCUAUAUUACUAACAAAAACUAAAAAAUAAUAGUUCUUGUGAUUACAAGAAAAUUUUAGAAAAUAUUUACAACAUGAUUUGGAUUAAUAAACAAACAUCAAUAAUAAUAUAAUAAUUUUUAAAACAAAAAAAAUCAUUUGAUUAUUUAUUCACUUAAAAAUAAUAAUUUUUAUUACUACAAAAUUUUGAAAAAUACUUACUAAAAAUCUAGAUUAAUAAUGAAAAAUUGAAUAAAAACAUAUUAGUUUAGUUUCUAAAAAAAAAAAAAUAGUAAUUGAAAGCAAAUGAGAAAACAAAUUCUCUCAUAGUAAAAAAAUGAGAAAAUUAUAUAUAUUUUUUUCAUAUUAGUGUUAUAAUAAAACAUCAACAAGAUAUAAAACGACUAGCAAUUCGAUCACGUUUUUCUUACAUCUCUCUUGCAUGAUAGAACCAUCUUUCUCAACUCAUGAAUCCACUCUACUCUUUUUUUUUUUUUUUAUUGAAACAGAUGUAACCCUUGAUCAUCAUCAUAAGGUUUAAAUUUCAUAUAUAUCCUAACAUUAAUCAUUAUUAAGUUGUAAAAACCAUCAAAGUAAUAACAGUGUUGACUUAUUUUUCAAGAGGAAAACUAUGCAUUUCUCAUAUUGUUCCACAUCUAUUCUUUAAAAAGGCAAAUGUUCAAUUGUUCUUCUCAAAGAUGUCUAUGGUUAAAUAUUUCCUUCUUACCUCUUGGUAAACUACUCUAUCGAAAUCUAAAAGAUGGUAACACUCGCCCUUUAAGGGCCUAAUUAUAUAUCCACUCAUUUAAGGAUAACCAACAUUGAGUAAAUAAUAUUUACCUACAAAAAAAAAAUUAAAAUUAUAUAAGAUUAUGAAAAUCUAAUCACAAAAGUAACUUUCAUAUUUUUAGUCACAAAUCUCUAGAAGGAUGAGGAAAACCCAAUUCUAGCAUUUUUUUUUAAUGCCUAUGAAAAGACGCAUACAUCAUGAGCAAAACCUUCCCAUCUAGCCAAUGCAAAUGUGAAAUACAUAUUGAAAUAAUAUAUGACCAUAAUAUUUUAGGUAGUUAUGCUUUUUGUACCAAUAUAUGAUAUUUGCCUAUCUAUAAAAACCAUAAUGGGCAUAUGAGUUCCAUCAAUUAACCCUGUACAAUUCUUAAAAUAUUGCCAAUAACGUCUAACAUUUCUUAUUUUAUCAAGGAUCUCCCUAAACUAUGAAUCACUUGGUUUUAUAUAUCCAUAGCUAUAAGAUAAACAACAUAUAAUAUAAUCUCAAACCAUCUAGAAAUAAAUUCAUUGGAGUGAUAAAAUCUUUCUUAGGUUGUCAUGUUGCCAAGUUUAUGGCCAAUUGUAGUGAGAAACAUUGCUAAAGCCUCUAUUAAGGGAAUAUCUAAACCUUCUCUUAGACCAUGCCUUUUAAUAAGUGUUUCCAAUAAUUAAUGCAUACAUGUUUUUCCAUUCUAAAUUGCUCAACUAUAAUUUUGAAAAAGUUCUACAAGGUUUUUAUUUUUUGUAGUUAGUAACUGUUAUAGGUAUAACACAUCCAACCAACACCAAUUGAUAAAAAUCAUUUCAUCACUGCGUUCAUCUUUAAUAUCAUGAUUGCAACUAUUAUUAUAAUUAGAAAACAUAAAUACAAAAAGUAAAAAUAAGAAAUACAUUAAAAAAACUAAUAAUGUAUAUUAUGUUAAUAUAGCUUAAACUAAUGCAUGUUUACUAAAAUAAAAGGAUUUUUUAUUUAAAAAUUUAUUUGAACAUGCAAAAUCAAGAGUAGUAGUAGUAUGCAAAAUAAUAGCACUGAAAAGUAGUAAGAGUAGAAAUACAUGUAAUCGUAUAAUUCUAUUUUUCCAUAAUAAUAAUAAUAAUAAUCUAGCUCAUGUGGGUCACCCUAGGAUAGGACUCCUCCCAUAACACCCCUAUUUUCAAUCCAUUUAUAUUCUUAAUAGUUUGACUAAAUAAAAUUUUAAAUUCAAAAGUGUUGUAUUGAGAAAUCAAAUACAUUAUAAAGCUCAUCUAAUUAGGAACUUGACUGAGACAAAAUUUUAGAUUCAAAGGUGUUGUGUUGUGAAAUCAAAUACAUUAUAAAGCUCAUCUAAUAGUCACAACUUUUAGAGAAAGAAACAAUUAAAUAUACCAUGUGAUAGACAUAUAUGUCUUCCUCACUCAAAAAGUUUACUCAAUACCAACAUACAAAUCUUAUUUAAAACAAUAUUAGGUAGCAAAAUAUGUUUCAACAUUAGAAUAAGAAAUAACUCAAAUAGUGAAACAUAUUUAUGCUUAUUUCAUGCAAUUUGAUCAAUUGAGUUUUCUAAUGCUAGAAACAGCUCCUUAUUUCCCUUGACAACUUGAAUAAUACAAUUUAAGGUCAUUCUUCACUUCAAGCAUGCCACAUAUAACUUUUAUUACUUUAACAAUAGCCAGGCUUAUCUACUCUAGAUGUAACUUUAAAAAUGGCCUCUAACUGCAUAGUCAAAAAACAAGAUUUGGUUCCAUCUCUUAUCUUCUUUCUUAUUCUCUCAUUUUGCUAUGAAAUUUAUUUCCUUGGGGUUCUCCUACAAAAGUAUUCAAUUUAUUAUAUUUCACGACCAAAAUAUAAAUUAACCAAAUAAACUUAGUAAAUAAAUAAAAAUGUAUCAUCAAUUUAUUAUCCCACCAUUCAUUUUUAGCAUUAGUGGUUUCUCAUAGGAUCCCACCCAAGGCCAAUCUUUUUCUGAAUCAAGGCAUUCCAAAGUUGUCAAUCUUUUUUAAGAGAACUUAAUAUAUUCUUAGGUUGCUUGUAUUGGUAGGUUCUUCUAGUUAGAUUGUUGAAUACCUUUAUCAUUUUUUUCCAUCCAAUUUACUAAAGUGACUAUUUGGUCUAUUUUUAGCCAAAAUCUUAGCAACACAAACUGUGAGAUAUGCAUUAACAACAAUAUCAUUCAAUAUACUUUGCUUUAUUUAUCAUUUUCUUUACCACUUGUUUGUUGUAGUGGUUGAACUAUACUACUAGACAUCUAAUAACAAAGUAAAGAACAAAGAAGUAUUAAAAGAAAAUGUUGUCAAUGUACUUUUAUAUUUUAUAGUUUAGACAUCUAAUGAGACCCAUAAAAAAGUGAACCUUAAAGAAAUAGGUCAACUAGAGGAAAAUGAAUCUCAGAAUACUGAAUUGGAAAGACUCACAUUCAUGGAAUAAAUUAAUAUACUAUAUCAUAAUUUUAUUAAUUCUUUUCAUUAGGUUGCUAAAAGUUGAAAAAGAAUUCCUCAUGAAACAAAUUAAAUAAUUUCCUCAUGAAAGAAUCCAAUCAUGGCCUCAUUAUGAAGUAUUGAAUUAACUCAAAGAACUUAAAUAUUAUCUAAUAAAUUUUUUCAUGGGUUUGUUUUUAUAACUUUAAUGUUACCAAUAUAAAAGGAAAUGAAACAUGUUUUAAAUAAUGUAAGAAACUAUGGUAGAAACGUGGAAAGAUUUAAGGAUAAGAGGCUUUAUAUGAACUUUAAUAUUGUUAGUAACAGAGAGGCAAAUGAGAUAUCUCAAUAUUAAAUUAUGCAUAAUUAGUAUAAUUUUUUAAAACUAAAUGGAAGAGAAUUUAGGAGGAAAAUAAGUAAUUAGAGUAUGAGAUAACAUGAAUGGUUAAAAUUGCCAAUCAUUAAAUUUAAGAUAAUUGUUAAUUUUCCAACUCCAUUAAUUAAAGCAAAGAGGGGAAAUGAGUUGGAUUUCUUAAUAGUAUUAAGUGUUGGAUUGACACAAAAUUAGGGUGCUAGUGGACACUUGAAAUGAGGACAAAGUAACAAUUGCAGAUAGCAUUUUACUCAUCUAACAUAGUUAAAAUUUGCAAAACCCACUUCUUAUUUAGUACUUUUAUUGAAUAUAUGGGUAUAGUUUAACUUCGAAUCUAAUAUGAGUGUACUUUGAAUUUCCUAAAGCUUACAUAUAUCUUCACAUAUUAAAUCAAAGAGAAAAUAUUAACGUUUUUUACAAUUACAAUUUAUCAGGACUCAAGGUUUAAUUCCUAAACUUUUAAAGUGGGAAAAAGAAGUGUAAGGGAGAAAAAAGGAAAAGGAAAAGAAAGGAAAAACAAAAAGAAUAAAAAACUAUUAAAAGGCAUUAGAAGCCUAAGAUGGGCAUAUCCAUGAUUUGAGGUGCAAAUAGGGGUGACAAUUCAUGUUGGUGGAUAGUGUUUGUGUUGUGUCAAAGCCUAGGUAUUCUACUACAUAGCUCAACCCAACCCUGAUACUACUUAUAAUCAUAUAAAAAAUAUAAGCCUAAAUACUAUCUAAUUAUUAAACAAGUAACACAUUGUACAACCCGCUUAAUCUAUUUAAUAUUCAGGUCCUGCUAUUUAAUAAUCAAAUUAAGUUAGGUCUUCUAUAUGUCUAUAUGAUUAAUGCCUCAAUAAAAUAUGUUUUUGGCUCAAUUGACCUAUCUAUUUAGAAACAAAUUUAAAAUGAAUCAAAUAUGGGUCAAACAUCUUAAAAAUAUAAGUAAGUUAAUAGCAAGAUUAUUAAAUAGGUUAAUUUGGGUCAAAUUCGUAUUAUGCAGGUUGACCAAAAAAGUACUUAUUUAGUAAAUGAGUUAUGUAAGUCGACACAAAUUUUACCUAAACUCAUUUAUACUUGACCCAAACCCAUGAAAAGCAUGUUAGGCUUGUAUCAUGCUAGGAAUUGUAUCAAACUUUGUCAUUCCUAGGUGCAAACAACUCCAAGACCCUACUUUUAAGGAGAAUAUAUAUACUUGAGAUUGCUACAUGAUUACUACUCAAAAUGUGCACUUUUAUAAGCUUAAACUUAAUUGUACUAAGCACUUUUGAGUAGUAGUUAGACCUUUUUAUCCCAAUUGUCAUGUUAAGGACCUAGAAAAUGUUACUAACCAAUUUCUAGUAAGUUUUAGUGUUUUUGGUAGUUUUUUUAUCACUGAAGCAGGCCAAGAUUGAGGGAGAUUUUUGUGCAAGCUAUGGCAAGGCAAGUUAAAUAUCAAUCACAUGAAGAAUCCGAGCUUCGGAGCACUUCAAAACCCUUGCCAAACUUGGAAAGGGAUUGGAAAAGUUAUCAGUAGUAAGAUGGAGGAAAACAGAGCAUUUUGCAAGGCAAAAUCAUCAAUUUUGUAAGGCAGGGUGUGCCAAACUUUUGCAAGGUGUGCCAAAAUUUCGCAGGGUGUGCAAAAAUCAUUUUGUGCGCACCGACCUUCUGGAUUUUUCUCCAUAAUUGUAAUUGUUCCUUUUUACUCCUUUUGUAAUAGAUAAAAGACAUUAGGGUUUGUUUAGGAACUAUAAAUAGGGGUUCGAAAGCCUCUCAAAUGAUGUGAGAUAUUAUGUUUUAGAUAUUUUGUAAAGGAGUUUUGAAGGAAAUAUAUGGAAGUUUUUCUCGGCCUUUCCUUCUCAUUUUCUUUUCAUAUUCUCUCUAGCCAAACACCCUCUGAGGAUGAUUUCUCAGAGGAUGAGUGGCUAAGUUUCAAGUUUCUUGGAGUGAUGGAAGCUAGGUAAAGGACCUAGAUGCAAAGGUGGGAGUUUUCCUUACUUUAAAUGAAGGUAGUUGUGUAUCAUUAAUGGUUUAUAUUUCAAGUUUCAGCUUUAAUCCCUUAGAAUCACCUUGAAUGGCCAAUACUUGGUAAGCUUUUAAGAUUCUGUGGAUGCUUAUUGCUAGAUCCAUGGAUGUCCAUUAUUAUCAAGUACGAGCCAUUGGAAGAUGGUUCAAGGUGAGAGUCUUUAGUGUUUGAAGCCAUUAAUGGGAAGCAACUACCAUUUUUCAAUAACCCUUUGGAUCAAAACUUAUUUGCUAAAUACAAAUCCGGUUCGGGAGAUAACCAUCCUUUAUGUUAUUGUCCCCAAUCCGAGGAGAAGAUUCGGAAUUUCCCACUUUGCAACAGGAACCUGAUCCUAGUAACCUAUAGCUCCAAGAGACUUUCUCUUUGUAGUAAUUUCAAUUGUUUAUGUUUGCUUAACUUAAAACCAACCCUUCCAAUCAAUCUUAUUUUCAUUUAAAAACUAAAUUCCAAAAAGGAAAUCGUCAUUUCUUCUUUCAUUAAUGUUAAGUGUACAAAGAAAACCCAUCAUUGUGGACGAUCGUAGAGCCACUAUACUAUAGUAGCUUUGUCUUUGCUACCCUAGUAUAAGGUGUUGUAGUUUUUAUAAAUGUUUUGAUAAACACCCGGCUGGGCAUGAAUCACUACAUUAUUUAGACUAAUCCACACCUACUUAUUAAGGGAAAAAAAUAAAAGAGGACAAAGGUAGGGCACAAGAUGAUGAGACAAGGCACAAAAUGAUAAGACGUAGGAUGAUAAGAAUCCACUUCAAUUAAUAUUUCCCUAAAUCAAGAGUAAUCAAAUAUUAAAAUAUUUUAUUCUCCUAAUUUAGGAUAUAAUAUUUAUUCUAAAUAAAUCAAGAGCAAUCAAAUAUUAAUAAUAUUUUAUUCUCUUAAUUUAAGAAAUAAUAUUUAUUUUCCUUAAUUAUAGGAUAUUUAUUAUUUAUUUCUUCUAUAAUUCACAAUGCAUUCUUGUAUAAAUUUAUGAAAAGAAAUAAUAAAAAUUCAUCGCUUCUAUUAUCAAAUUAUCAAAUUCUUCUUGGUAUUAGAGAUAGAGGAGGAGACUCAAACUUGGGUUUUCUCCGAAGGUGGUUGAAUACCCUAAAAGACUUGACCUAUCCACACAAACAAUGUCUUCCUCUUCAUUCAUUCAAAAAUAAAAUAAAAUAAAAUAAAAUCCUUAGUGCUCUAGCUUUCCAUCAACAUUUUUUCUAAUUUGAUUUCAUUCAAGCUAAACACAACAAAUUUUCUACUAUGGGGAAAUCAAAUCAUCCUCUCAGCUUGUGGUUUCCGUGUUCAAACCUUUCAUCAAUGUUUUACCCUUUCAUUGGUGUUAUUUCUAGUUUGAUUUCAAUCAAGUUAAACACCAUAAAUUUUCUACUAUGGCAAAAUCAAGUCAUCCUCUUAGUUCAUGGUGUGUUCUCUGACAUUUCUUAGGUGGAGAAAAACCUGCUAAAGAAUUAAAGAUGAUGAGGAAAGCAAAAUUUUUAUCCUACAAUACUAGUAAUCAAUUAAUAAUAACAUAUUUGUCACUUCAUGAGUUAUCGAAACCAUGACAAAAGACAUUUUCAUUAUGAUCCUUGGGGCUAACAAGAUAUAUAAGGUAUAAACUUUUCUUAAGGAGUAAUCGCUUCCUAUUAUAGUUGAAAAAAAAAUGAUAUCUUCAAGAAUAGUUAAGAGAUAUAAACAAUAUAUAUUAUAAUCUCAUGAAAAUCAAAAGCUAAUUUCAGACCAAUACAAAGUUUGUUGAUUCACUCAUGGUUUAGGAUAAUGGAAUGAUUUUUUUUUUUAACCUACUAUGCUUUUCUAACCAAUUCAUGGCAACUCUUUAGGGACAUAAGCAAUCACUCACUACCAAAGGGAUGGAAAGAAAAUUUUUAUAGAGUAUUCACAAAUUUUUAUUUGGACAACAUAGUUAUGGUCAUAAUGGUUGAAAAGGCAUAAAUUUUAAUUUGAGGGGAAGAAGCUUUACACUUUCUAUGUAUUACAAUUCUUUAAAAAAAAUAAACUUUUAUGAUUUUAUGAAGUCCUUGUCAAAGGAUAUCUUCAUCAUGUUUUGAGAUAAGCUGGGGUGUGCAUAUUCUUUUCGACUCCAAUUUGAGCUUGCAUAUUAAGGGAAAUAAUAAAAUAAGAUAAAAAGCACAUAGGAUUGCAACAUGUAGGAUGAUAAAAAUCCGAUUCAAUUAAUAUUUCCAUAAAUCAAGAGUAAUCAAAUAUUAAAAUAUUUGAUUCUCCUAAUUUAGGAUAUAAUAUUUAUUUUAAAUAAAUAAUGAACAAUCAAAUAAUAAUAAUAUUUUAUUCUCUUAAUUUAGGAAAUAAUAUUUAUUUUCCUUAAUUUUAGUAUACUUGUUAUUUAUUUCUUUGUAUAAUUCAAAAUGCAUUCUUGUAUAAAUUUUCUAAAAGAAACAAUAAAAUUCAUCAUUUUCACUACCAAAUUAUCAAAUCCUUUACUAAUGACCUUAUGAUUAAAAUCUUGUUUGUUUGGUAAGUGUUAAGCAAAAUGCCUUAGUAGCUACAAACAUUAUGGAAGACGUGUGAAAGUUGUUGUGAACUGAGGAAGCUUAAGAAUCUGUUAAGAAGGUUGCUGAGGUGUGAAGAGAUGUUGAAAUUGAGGCUGCAACCAUAAAACAACUUAGUCAAUGAAGUUGUUAUGCUAUUGUUGCUGUUGUUGUUAAAAUCUUGUUUCAUGGAGUUGUUAUGUUGUUGUUGUUAAAAUCUUGUUUCAUGGAGUUUUUAUGCUGUUGUUGCUAUUAUAUAGGAAAUAAUUGUUAGUUCCAACUAUUUUUGCUACUUUUCUAUUGUUUUCUGUUGCAAAUUUGUGUAUAAAUGUUGCAUUGAUCAUUCAACAAGAGUAGACAUUUUCGUUGUCUCAAAUACAACUUUUGGUUGUUACUUCCAACAUUUCUAGAUUCUAAAACCUAUAGAUUAGUAUCAGAGCCUUCAAUGUUGAGGAACAUGUGAGGAUUGAGUGAAGCCAAAAUACCUUCACACAUACUGAAACUCCAAAGCCAACAUAAACACACAACCUUUGACAGGUUGUAACUAUCAUUCUACAACAAAUGGAUGGAGAUACAAGCUUUCUGUUAGUACCAGUUUUCAAUGGUGAUAAUUAUCAGGCGUGGGCUAUUAGAAUGACAGUCCACCUUGAAGCUUUGGAUCUUUGGGAAGUAGUAGAAGAAGAUUAUGAAGUACCACCACUUGGAGACAAUCCAAGUAUCAAUCAAAUGAAGAUUCACAGGGAAAUAAAAACAAGGAAAGCCAAAGCCAAGGCUUGCCUCUUCUUUGCAGUUUCACCUUCUAUUCUCACCAGAAUCAUGCAAAUAGAGUUUUUUAUAGCAAUCCGGGAGUAUCUAAAAAAUGAGUAUUGGGGGAAUGAAAGGGUGUAGAAUAUGCAGGUAAUGAAUUUAAUAUGAGAAUUUGGAAUGAGCAGAAUGAAAAAGUCUCUAACUAUCAAAGAUUAUGUUGAACAACUGCUUAGCAUAGCAAACAAGGUAAGAUUGUAUGGUAAGGAAUUUUCUGAUGAAAGAAUUGUUAAGAAAAUCUUAGGAACUCUGCCUGAAAAAAUAUGAAGCCACAAUCUCUUCCUUGGAAAACUCUAAAGAUCUGUCAAGUAUAUCUUUGGUAGAAAUUGUUAAUGCUUUGCAGGCCUUGGAACAAAGGAGAAUGAUGAGACAAGAAGGAUAUGUUGAGGGAGCAUUCUAAGCCAAAUCAAAGAACAAUGAUUCCAGCAAAGACAGAAAGAAAAACAAGAAAUAGAAGUCAAGCAAUAACAAAAUGAAUCAGAAAGGAGCUGAUCCACCUUGCCCUUAUUACAAAAAAACAAAUCAUCCUCCACAAAAGUGUUGGUGGAGGCCAAAUGUCAAGAGCAACAAUUAUGGUCAAUUAGGCCAUAUGGAGGAGGUAUGCAAAAAAAAAAAAAAAAAAAAAAACAAACAAGGAGAGAUCAAGGCUACAAUUGUUGAUCAAUAUCACGAAGAACAAUUGUUUGUUGCCACCUGUUUUUCCAGCAAAAACAUGUUUGAAAGUUGGCUCAUAGAUAGUGGUUGCACAAACCACAUGACUUAUGAUCAAGGACUUUUUAGGGAACUCGAUAAAAUAACCGUUUCCAAAGUAAGAAUUGGAAAUGGGGAAUACAUCUCAGCAAGGGGCAAAGAGGUUGUUGCCAUUGAAAGUCUCUCAGGUUUGAAACUUAUCCCCGAUGUUUUGUUUGUUCCUAAUAUUGAUCAAAAUAUCUUGAGUAUUGGGCAGCUACUUGAGAAAGGUUUCAAGGUGCUAUUUGAGGACAAGUUCUGUAUGAUUAAGGAUGCAAAUGGAAAAAAUGUGUUCUAGAUCAAGAUGAGAGGCAAAACCUUUGCCUUGAAUCUGCUUGAGAAAGAGUAGGUUGUUAUUUCUCAAGAAAAUAAUGUCACAAUUUUAUGGCAUAAGAGAUUGGGGCACUUUCAUCAUAAUGGAGUGCUCUACAUGAAGAAUAAUCAACUUACAGUAGGUCUACUUGACCUAAAGCAAAAUCUUCCUACUUGCAUAGCCUGUCAGUAUAGAAAACAAUCCAGACUUCCUUUCCCAUAGAAAUCUACAUAGAGAUCAUCACACAUGCUGCAACUUGUACACAUUGAUGUUGGAGGACCUCAGAGAACACCAUCUCUAAAGGGCAGUAAGUACUACAUUGCCUUUAUAGAUGAUUACACCAGAUAUUGUUGGAUUUUUUUCCUAAAUUUUAAAUCUGAGGUUGCUGAUGUAUUUUGGAAGUACAAGGCCCUAGUAGAAAACCAAAGUGGUGUCGUCUUGUAGGUUAUAAGGACAGAUAAUGACACUGAAUAUACUUCUGAAAUAUCCAACAAUUUCUAUGAAGAAGUAGGCAUAAAGCACCAACUGACUACACUUUACAGACCACAACAGAAUGGAGUGGUGGAGAGGAAGAAUAGUGGAGAGGAAGAAUAGGACUAUAAUGGAGAUGACAAGAUGCCUUUUGCAUGAGAAAGGGCUACCAAAAAAGUUUUGGGCUGAAGCCACAAACACUAUAGUGUUUCUACUGAAUAGACUCCCAACCAAAGCUUUUAAAAAAAAGACUCAUUUUGAGGCUUGGUUUGGAUAUAAACCUCUAUUAUUAAACUUAAAAACAUUUGGUUGCCUUUGUUUUAGUUAUGUGCCUUAGGUGAAACAAGACAAGUUAGAUAAAAAGGCAGAAGUUGGGAUCUUCGUAGGAGACAACAACCAAUCAAAGACUUAUAGAGUUAAUAUGCCUCAUGCUAACAAAGUCAUUGUUAGCAUAGAUGUCAAAUUCAUGGAGGAUGAUAAAUGGAGUUAGGAUGCUAAAAAAAAAAUUAGAAUUUUGAGUUACUUGACGAAAAUAUUGAUGACAUUCCUAUAAGAAGCACCAAAUCACUUUUUGAUAUUUAUCAAAUGUGUAAUGUGGUUGUGUUUGAGCCUGUAGGGUUUAAUGAAGUUGUUGAGGAUAAAAAAUGAAGGGUUGUAACGUGGGAGGAGCUUAGAAUGAUAGAGAAAAACAACACUUAGGAGCUAGUUGAUAGACCAACACAUAAAAAGACCAUUGGUGUCAAGUGGGUUUAUAAAACCAAACUCAAUUCUGAUGGUUCUGUAAACAAACAUAGAGCCUGGCUGGUUGUCAAAGGUUAUGCUCAAAUGUUCGGUGUGGAUUUUUCAUAAACCUUUGCACCUGUAGCUAGGUUGGAUACAAUAAGGAUGCUGCUAGCUUUGGCUGCUCAAAAUGGUUUGAAAAUCUAUCAGCUAGAUGUAAAAUCAGCUUUUCUAAAUGGCUACCUUGAGGAGGAAAUCUUUGUAGAGCAACCUGAAUGAUUUGCAGUAAAAGGCAAAGAAGACAAGGUUUAUCAACUAAAGAAAGCCUUGUAUGACUUGAAGCAAGCCCCCAGAUCUUGGUACAACAGGAUUAAUGCACAUCUGCUUGGUUUGGGGUUAAAAAAAGUCAGAGUGAAUCCACACUUUAUAUUUGAAAAAUUAAUGCUGGCAUACUUAUUAUUUCAUUAUAUGUUGAUGAUUUGCUUGUAAAGGAAGCAAUCAAUUUUUAAGCUAAAAUAGAGAAGGUCUUUGAGAUGAAAGAUCUUGGAGACAUGUCUUAUUUUCUGGGAAUGGAAGUCCAUCAGAAUCAGCAUGAGAUAUUCAUCUAUUAGCAAAAGUAUGCAAAGGAAAUUCUAAAACAGUUCAAGAUGGAGGAAUGCAAGGCCACAUGCACACCUAUGAAUCAAAAAGAAAAGUUUUGAAAAGAAGAUGGUGCUAAAAAAGUAAAUAAAGAGUUAUACAGAAGCAUGAUUGGAUGUUUGAUGUAUUUGAGUACAAGAAGAACAAAUAUAAUACAUGUUGUAAGUCUACUCUCAAGAUAUAUGCAUUGUGCUAGUGAAAUUCACUUGUAGGUAGCAAAACGUAUUGUGAGAUAUAUAAAAAACACUAUCGACUUUGGCAUCAAGUUCAAGCAGGUGCAGAAUUUUCAUUUUCAUGGAUUUUAUGAUAGUGAUUGGGUUGGCUGCAUUGAUGAUAUGAGAAGCACAUCAAGUUAUUGCUUUAGUUUUGGUUCAAGUUUUUUUCUCUUGGUGCUCUAAAACAUAGGAUAUCAUGGCAUAAUCCAUAGUUGAAGCAGAGUACAUUGCUACUGUUGCUGCUGCAAAUUAAGCACUUUAGAUAAGAAAGCUACUAACAGACUUAAACAUGGAGCAAACUAGGAGCACACAAGUCUUUGAGGACAAUCAAGCUGCAAUUUCAAUUGCAAGUAAUCCAGUAUUCCAUGGUAGGACAAAGCACUUCAAAAUCAAGUUUUAUUUCUUAAGGGAAAUACAACUUGAUGGAGAAGUAAUUUUGGUACAUUGUAAAACAGAAGUAAAAAAUGUUAAUAUUCUAAAAAAAGCUCUACCAAAAGCUAGGUUUGAAUUUCUCAGAAAAAGACUUAAAGUUUGUAGCUCCCAAGUCAAGGAGGAGUGUUAAGCAAAAUACCUUAGUAGCUAUAAUCAUGUUGGAAGACGUGUGAAAGUUGGUGUCAACUGAGGAAGCUUAAGAAUUUGUUAAGAAGGUUGCUGAGGUGUGAAGAGAUGCUGAAAUUGAGGUUGUAACCAUAAAACAACUUAGUCAAUGAAGUUGAUAGAGUUUCAUGGAGCUGUUAUGCUGUUGUUGCUAUUUUAUAGGAAAUAGUUGUUAGUUCCAACUAUUUUUGUCGCUUUUCUAUUGUUUUCUAUUGCAAACUUGUGUAAAAAUGUUGCAUUGAUCAUUCAAUAAGAGUAGACAUUUUCGUUGUCUCAAAUACAACUUUUGGUUGUUGCUUCCAGCACUUCUAGAUUCUAAAACCUACAGAUUCUAUGAAUUUUAAUGAUAUUCCAUCAUUUCUAGGUCUCUCAAACCUUCAAUUUAGUAGGGUUACAAAACAUAGCAUCUCUAUUUGGCAUUUCAUCAAACGCCUUUCUCACUUUUUCUUGAUCCACAUGGGCAUAAAUCACUCUCAACUAUUAACACAAACAACAUAGAUUUUAGCUAAUUACAAACCAAAUUGAUAUAUCACCCCUAGUAGUUGUAAUUUCCUUCAUUAAUUGCCUUCCCAUUUCCACAUCUCUUUUUUUACGCAACCCAUAAAAAAAUUUCAUGAAAUUUGAGUCUAGGUAGGAGAAAGCACGAAUCUCAGUGCACAAAAAUUUGAUUUCAAUCAUUCACAAAAAAAAAUUAAUUUUAUGGAAAAACAUUAAAAUAGUAAAAUAACAAAUUGAGAAGGACUUUCUAAGAAAAUAUAAUCAAAGGAAAACAAGGUAAUCAAAAGACUCAUAUAAUGUUUUACUUCCAUUUUCUAAGUAACUAAAUAGAAAUGUUGAAAUGAAAGUACCUCCAACUAUGGAUGUAAAGAGUCAUUGUUAAUGAGAAAAUGGUGAGAAUUGGAAUCAUGAAAAGUGUAGAAGAAGACUGUUUGGACUAUGGAGAGUGAAGGAGAAAGAGAAUGCUUGUUGAAAAGGAAAGAGUGGGUUAUUGGGUAACACUUAAGGUUAUUUUAGGUAUAUUUGAAAAUUUUAAAAGUAUUUUUUUUUUAAAUAAUCAGCUCUUAAGUGCUUUUCUAAAAAUUACUUCAAGUGAUUUUUUUCUUUUAAAGGUUUUUAAAAGUGUUUUUGAAAUCUUGCCAAACAUCUAUUUUUCACCCAAAAAAAAACUCUUUUAAUUAUUAAAAAUGCUAGACACUCUUCUUAAAAAUACUACUAAACAAGUUCUUAAUAGGAUUUUAUUUAUUAUCGCAUGUUUCUUAGUCUUUAACCAAGGAUAUGUCUAUACUUCAAAAUAAAAGAAGGGACACAAUUUUAUUCUAACCAUCCUUCAACCUUAUUUUCUUUAAAUAUCUACUAAAAUGGGAUUACUAUGAUUUCACCCCAAUUCCAACUCCCUUUUCUACAAAAAGUAAAACUAAUUUUUUGGGAAUACGUAUGCAAAGGUAAUGGCAUAGAUGAAGUUGUAAAUGGAGAUUAAUGGAAGUGAUAGAAACGGGAUUAUGCUAGGGUUUUAGAGCCAAAGAGGAUGGGUUGGUGAUGGUGGGUCUUAAGGGAAGUGAUAGAGAAGUUGGGAAUUAAGGUUAGAUUUAAGGUUAAGGUUAGGGCUAGGGUUUCAUCAAUGGAUGGUGAUGAAGAUGAAGAUAUGGACAUCCCUUGCAAAAUCUACCAAUAUAAUUAGUUUCUACUAUAUAAUCAACUAAAAUUGGAAUCAAUUCUCCUUCUCAAACUAUGAUAAUAUGACUUUAGAUGGUUUUUGAUAAUGAUUUCUUUUCCUCUCAAUGAAACUAUAGAUCAAUUAUAUGUUUCAACCCAAAUAAGGGAUCCUUAGAAUCCCUUAAUCUUUAGUUUCUAUUUAGAUUAAGGAAUAAGAGAUCCCUAAGAUCUUUUAAUCUUUAAUUUCUAUUUAGUUUCCUAUAUAAAAUAAGAAGAGUGUAAUGGGGAAAGAAAUGGAAAAAUAAUCUCAAUAUGAAAAAUUGGUUCUCUCAAUUUUGCAUCUUCUCUUUGAGUCAUAAGAAUUGGUGUUAGAACACGAUCUUGGCACCAAUCAUGGAUGAAGGGACUAGAGUGUAAGAACAACAUAGACUUGAAGAUACUAUUAAAUAGUUGAAAAAAUCAUUGGAUAAACAAGCGACUACCUCAUUAGAACUAUCAAAGAUGGUUGCAACCAUAAACUUGAAAUUUAAACACAUGAAUUCAAGAAUAGAGAAGUCAAGUAAUGGGUACAAUGCCUCAAUCAAUAGAAGCAAGACAAACUAUCAUUCAUAUGGCAUAAACUCCAUUCAAUCCAGGUUUUCCAAACUCAAAUUUCAAAAUUUUGGAGGUGAGAAUUGGGAAUUAGGAAAAGGUAGGAUUGGCUUCAUUACAUUUAAAAGGAAGGGCCUUAGAAAGGUUUCAAGGGUACAAGGCUAGUAACAAGGAAAUCAACUGGACACAAUUUUAUAUAGUUGUUGUUUCUAGGUUUAGCCCUAGUGUUUAUGAUAGCCUUAUGAGGUAAAUAACCAAAUUGAAAUAGGUUUAUACGAUUAUGGCAUACAAAAAUUAGUUUAAAGUAUUGAUGACCAAAACUAAUGGGUUAUCAAAGGAAUUUUUUGUCUAGUAUUUCAUUAGUAUCUUGAAAGAGGCAAUUAAAAAUCAAGUCACCAUGUUUCAACCGAUCACACUAGCCCAAACCAUCGAAUUAGUCUUGUUGCAGAAAUGAAUAGUGGAAGUAAUUCUCAAGGAAGUCAAGGACUCUAACGAAAGUGAGGAUAGUACAAUGAACUUUACAAGAAUCAUAAUGAAUCAUAAUAACAAAUUACCACCCUUAAGAAGAUUUCAGUUGUAGAAGUGCAAGAGAGAUGAAAAAAAUGUUUUGUUAUUAUUGUGAUGAGAAGUAUAAGUCUGGCUAUAUAUAUAAAAUGAGACAAUUUUUUCUACUAAAUGGUCAUAGAAGUGAAGGGAAAGCAACGUGUGAAGCUAAAAAUGAUAUCAGGAGGAUGAUCUUAUGGCUUUAAUAAAUGCAAUAUUUGGUUCAACAUCUCAUCAAACCAUGAGAAUCUGUGGCAACAUAAAAAGGAAGGUCGUGACCAUACUAAUUGACUUAGGAAGAACCCAUAACUUUCUUGAUCUCGUAGUGGCCAAAAGAACAAGAUGCUCAAUACAAACUACCGACCCCAUGAAGGUGGCAAUAACAGAUAGAACUAGAAUUACUAGUGAUGCAAUUUGUCAGCAAUGAUAGGAUAGAACCCUUAAAAGCAUGACAUAAUGUAAUAAACUGGGAAUUCAUUAUUUAUUCAAUGAUAUUCCAAUUUCAGUUUUAUCUAUCCUUAUUCCAUGUAUUAUACUUUAUGAACUUUUUUGUCCGCAUCUUUUGCAUUAUAUGUGACUUAGGUGGAUCAGGAGUUGCAUAGAAGAUCUAAGUCAUGAGUUCCUUGUAAAUAGAUGACUAGUUCACAACCAAUUUAUGGGUCUAGGCAAUCCAUUAGAGGUUUCGGUGCACCACUUCCUAAUUAGAGGGAUAACUGGUCUUGGCUAUUAGGAUGAGUUUUACUAAUAUGUAUGGAUGCACAUUGGGCAGGACUGAUUAUAAGCUUAAGGCUAUCAAGUAGUCAUGACUUCACCAAGUUGUUUCAUUAUGUUGUUUCUCAACCUUGAGAGAAUAUUGCAUUUGUGUAGAAGUUAGCAGUGCUUUUGAUCUACGGGUAAAAUCGUAAGCUAAUCAUAUGCUCUUUAUGGAUUGGAUCACUAUUGACGGAUGCCAGUAGCAAUAAGUAUUCUAAAUAGAGACACCAUGAUAUCUCUUAGGAAUAAGACAGUGUGUAUCCUUGGGUGAUCCUAAGGAGGUGUGUUCAUGGAAACUAUGGUCAUAAUAGUUCCUUAUGUGGAACUUGACAUAGGCUCUUUGAAAGUUAAGAUAUGUCAAUUGAAUACACAAUAGGAGAAUCUGUAACUCAAGGAUGGUAGAGGUAGUCUUAAAAAGCUUAUAGCUUUCACUUUAUUAGACUACGAACACCAAUUCAUGGGGAGACUAAACAUAAUGGAUAGCAAGUCAUGGACUCGAGCACUUGGUGUCUUAUUAUUAUUUACAUAGGAUAUUUGAGUUCAAUUGAUUCUCUAUAGUGGGAUGUUGAAUCCACUUUAGAAUUGGAUUAUGAGAGAACUAGUAUUUCUAUAGGUCCUAGUGGUCUUUGUUUUGAGCUCAUAUACCUUGUUGGCACUGAUUAUGAGGGUCAGAUUGGCUUUAGGUUCACUUUUGUACAUAAAGGUGUUUUGGUAAUCACACAAGGUUGCACAAAGGUAAGUGAGCAAAGUCUUUGGAUUAGGCUAAUUGAUUAAUUAGUAGGCCCUAUUGGGUUAACUAAUCAAUUAGGACCCAUUUUGGGAUAGAUUAAGUGACCUAAGCCCUUAGUGAACUCAAGUCACUUAAGUCUAAUAGGAAACCACAUAAAUACCCCCUUAGGGGUUAGGGUUCCCAUUGCUUUUUCUAGAGAUCCAUAUUCCAUCUCUAGAGAGAGAGAGAGAUUCAUAGCAUGUACUCUUCCUUCUAUCCCCACCAGAAGUGUGUCAAGAUCAAGUUUCGAGUCAUUUGGCGAAAGACUUCGGGUUUAUGAGACUUCUACGAUUUCAUUCUUCAUCUUCACCAUGUAGAUUUGAUUCACAAACAUCCGAAUCUAAGGUAUGGAUUUUGUUUGCACUUUCUGAAUCCCUUUAAAGUUUAAAAAUGUUAUUUUUCCGUUGUGCAAAGGAUUUAGAAAAAGCCUAGGAUAGUUAUGCAUAUUCCUAACUUGAUCCGAUCUUAGGAAACAAAGAGAUCCUAGUUUUUCCCAUUAGGCAAUUGACAUGGAACAUGCAAGGGAAGAAAUUUUAGAUAGAUUUGAGGCUCAUCCUUUUGAGUGGGUGCGAUAUGGUAUUGGGAAUUCAAUGGCCAACUGAAUUGGGACUCAUAUUGUGGGAUUUCAGGAAUUUUAAAUUUGAAUUUAUUGUUGAUGGAAGGAAAUUCGUGUUAAGAGGUACAACUAUAGGUCCUAAGAAGUUAGUUUCAACUAAUGAAAUUCAAAAUUAUUGAAGGCAUAUGUCUCAAGCAUCUACAAUUCAAAAUUUCACUAUACAAGGGAAUGAGGAAAAUAAAGUUGAAAAUGAACAACAUGGCAGCUGUCCAACUCAUUUCCAAAUAAUGUAACAUAGAAAGAUGCUUACUUUCAACAAAAGUUUCCAUAGUUUCAACCUUGAGGACAAUGCUUCUUUUGAUGGGGGAGAGAAUGUUACAACCCUGAAUAAAGGAUCCCUGGGAUCCCUUAAUCUUUAGUUUCUAUUUCUGUUUAGUUUCUACUUCUAUUUAAAUUGGGGAAUAAAGUAUCCUUAAGAUCCCUCAAUCUUUAGUUUCUAUUUCUAUUUAGUAUCCUAUAUAAAAUAAGAAAAGUGUAAUGGAGAAAAAAAUGAAAAAAAAAUCUCAAUAAGAAAAAUUUGUUCUCUCAAUUUUGUAUCUUCUCUUCAUAUCAUAAAAUUCUACAUGUAGAUUUUCUCCUUCUAAAUCUCUAUAUGAUACAAAAUCAAUUCUUUUUUACUCCAAUUCCAAGUAUGUAUUUAUAGAAAUAGGUAUGCUUUGACUCUCAAUGAACACAUUUUUUCAAUUUUUCUACCUACCUAAGUGGAAAUAACAUAAGGUAACUAAACUUGCUUUGAGAUUAAUUAUGGUUUUGACAAUACAAAACUAGGUAUAGUACAAGACCUCCUAAACAAAGUUUCUAGCAUUAAUGAAUUCAAAAGAAGCUGGGUAAAACAAGUUUCUACUCACCAUCCCAAACAUCCCUUUAGAUGUAUUGUAUGAUAGAGGAUUAUUCUUUUAUUAUUAUUAUUAUUAUUAUUAUUAUUAUUCUUUUUUCUUUUUCCUUUUAAUGGUUUGGAGCAAAUUCAAAUGGCAUUAUAGAAGUAGAAUUUCCUAAUUUAAUUUGUUGGACAAAUUUGUUUUGGUUUUGCUAUAUUUUAUGUUUUGAAUACAUAGAAAUUGAAAUAUAAUAAGAUAACAAUUAUAAUGUAUUUUUAAGGGGAAAAUGUUUUUAUCUUCUAUAAUUAAAAAAAAAAAAAAAACAACAACAACAUCAACAACUACAAUAAUAUAGACAUUUGCAAUUUUUUUUAAAGUGUCUUUGUUAGGACAUUGAGUUCUAUUUGUAUGUUGGCAAUUUUGUUCCGAUUUAUUUUUUGCCUUAGAAAUCUUUUUAGAUAGUGACUUACUUUCCAUUGAAGAUCAAGGAUUGCUACUUGUCCAACUGGAAAAUCACAGGCAUGUCUAAAAGAUUUGACUUGUAGCAAAUUAGGGUUCUAAAAGGUAUAAAGAGGAUCGUUAUUCUUUUUUUUUUUGGAAUAAAAUUGAUUUUUAUUUAUCUUUGUCAAAAAGGCAGGAUUGCUCAAGCAAGGAAUAACACUCAAGCGUUAGGAUGCUCGAGCACUUGACUAGCGCUCGAAUGCCCGAGUUGCUUAAGUGAUGGUUAAGUGGACUCGGCCUCGAGCUCUCGAGCAUUCAUACCAAUUCUACCAAAGAUUAGCAUAAUAUUUUUGGAGAUUUCAUGCAAAUCCUUUCUGGAAACCUUGAGAUACCGACUCUCUUCAACCUUUAAGCCUAUAUGUACCCCAUUAUGGCCAUUCUAAAGUUAGGAGAUUGAUUUAUUGUCGUAAUUGAUAGAGAGUCUCCUAAAUAGAAAGCCUAAUGAACCACACGAUUCCUAAUCUCUCAUUUGAAGGAUAAUCUAGGGUUGAAAACUUGCAUCCCUUCAGUAAGGUUGAAGAGUACUCAGUGGAGUAAUUAGAGAUUAUUGCAUCACAGACGUCAAUGAAGUUGUAGGUAUUAGAGGGUAAGUCUUUAGGAUAAAACGACGAGGUAAAUUUGUGUAACUUGAUCUUGUAUAGUGGAUUUUGAUUAACAAUCUUAGACCUCGUGGUUUUUUUAUCUCCACAGUAGUGCAUGGAUUUUCCAUGUAAAAAUCAUUGUGUCCAUUGUUAUAUCUUGUGAUUAUCAUGAUUGUUUGGAUUUUUUUUAUCUCUAAUAUUAUCUCAUAGGGUAAAAAUUGAGUAUAACAUAUAAUCUUUUUUUUAGAAUUCUUUUAAUUACACCCAUUCACCCCCCUCCUCUCUUUGGGUGUUACCCUACUAGACUUGGCUUUUUCAGUCUCAAAUACUACAAUAGCAUUUUUUUACUUAAGUUAUAAAUGGAAAAAGUUAUAAACCCAAGAUAACUUGCUAAAAAAGUGAGAAAUAAUAAAGGACUCGUGUUAGAGUAUAAAUAGUUAAUCUAUUCUAGGCUUAAUAUAGCUCCAAUGUCAAACAUGAAUACUUAAUUAUUUAUUAUAUUUUGAAAAUAAAGUAAGUAUUUUUUAUAUAAAAAAUGAAACAACUUUUCUAGAACAACACAAGGCACUAAUGCAUAUAGUUGGUAACAAGUUGGAGAAAGAAAAUAAUGUGGAGAAAUAAAACAACAUGUAGAAAGAAACAAAAUGGAGAGAAAGAAAAUGACUAACAAAAAAGAAAAUAGAGAAAUUAUAGAAAAUAAGAUAAUUAAACUUAUUUUCAUAAAAAUAAUAUAUUUUCGAAAAAUAGAAAAUUUCAUUCAUAUUCUCUUUUUCACUUAUUUUAAAAAUAAAAGUAAAAAUUAAUAUUUAUCAAAUAUAUAAGAUUAAGAUUGAGAUAUAAACUUUUUAUAAUCUAAACUAUUAUUUUCAUUUUAAACAAGAAAGUUCGAUGUGACAUAAUAAAAUUUGUACACAAAAUUUAAAUUAUCUCUAUUCAUAUAGAAUUAUAUAUAGGUAUAGAUUCAUUUCAAAAUUCGAAUAAUUAUUUGAAUUUUACAUUUAAAUUUUAUUUUAAAAUUUAAAACUUAAUUAUUUUGUAAUAGGGUAUGUGUCAUAAAAUUGAAGCUUAUAUAUAUAAAUGCCUCCACUUCCAUACCUCUCAUAAAAUUGGAGCCUACUUUUUUUGUUUUCUUUUGUGUGUUUAUAAAUGUCUCAAAUUCCAUAUCUAGUUGUGAUAUAGUUUUGUAGAUGAUUGUGAUUGAAGUAUACUUUCUUUUGAUAUGUUUCCCUCCAUACAAAUCUAUUUAAAAGAAAAAAAAAACACAAAGUGUGGACCCCGCAUUUCGGCUCAUGCGUUUCCCACUCGAUGGUGAAACUCGCUUUUUAAAUUAAAAAAUGAUUUUUUGUUGUUGAUUAAGAAAAAUGACUUAGAGUCGCCACUUAUUUUGUUUUAUUUUUAAAGGGUAAACAAAAUAAGAAAGAAAACCCUAAGUGUAACUCCUUAUUUCGGAAAAGGUGAUAUGUGAAAAACCGGAUCGGGUUUGGGGGUUAGGUUACUUAUCAGGAAGGUACGGUAAAAAAAAAACCGUAGCACCCUUCUAAGCCCCUAAAACGGGUCUCUUCUAAUAAAAUGAAGCUGACAUGGCCAUUGAUGAGGAAAUCAAUGAAUACCCGGAACUAUCAUGCACAUAUGAGAAUCAGAAUAUACGUAACGAAUGAUCAGAAUGAGUGAAUGCGUACCUGGGCAGCAAACUGCAACGCGCUAUCAUGUGUGGACCCCGCAUUUUCGACUCAUGCUCGAAUGCGUUUCCCACUCGAUGGCGAGCUCGAUUUUGCCAAUUGAUGAAUAAAUCAAUGAAUACACAGAGUGAUCUUGCACAUGUGAGAAUCAAAAUAUGCAUAUAGAAAUACCAGAAUGGGAAUAGAUGCGUACCUGAGCGACGAACCACUAGGCGCUAUCAAGAAAGAGGGUUAGUGCACAAUUAAGGACUAAUAACAUGCAUGUAAGAGAGCAGGAUAAAUCAAUCAUGUAUCAUAAUCAAAUCAAAUCAAUCAGUCAAUCAAUCAAUCGGUCACAUAUGUGGGGGCCCCCACCAAAGCCCGUUUAUUUUGCAUGAAUUAAUUCCAAUAACUCCAUUACUUGGAAUUACGGAAUUUAAUCCUUGCUUAUUUAAAAACAUUUUAAAAUCCGGGAAGUCUUGAAAGUUGCAUGCCGAAGAGAGGUGGCAUCAAAUUUUAUUGAAAAACAGGAUUUUUGGAACUCAAAGGAAACGUAAGGAUGAAAGAUGGAAAUUAUUUAAAUUAUUUGAAAACCGACAUAAAAAAAAAUUAUUUGCAAGAAAGGUAUCAGGAAAUUAUUUUUUUAAGCCAAAAGAUUGAGGGAAUGGGAGGUGACACGUGGCCCAAAAGGUGGCCAUGCAGCUGGGUGUAUAGAGUAGAUGGCAAGUGGACCCCUGAGUCAUUUUGUUUGACAAACAGCUUGCUGUUGUAGUCUGCAUCCAUAUUGAUAAUACCCAAACUUGGAGCGCUGACCUUAUUUUUCAUUGGAGACAUCAAAUGACGUGUUUCAUGGUGGUGAGGCACGUACACUGCUGCAAAAUGGGUGACUUUGCUCCUAUGACUCAUGUUUUCUCCUCUUGAGUUGUUCAUCUGGGAAUAUACAAUAAUUUUCCAGCACAAACAUUCAGAAUCUGGAUUCCUUUCACUCAAUUUAUCUGCUACCACUUCUGAUAUAUUCAGCUCGAACCAGGGUCGUUCAUGUUCUCGGUAUAUUUCCCUUAUACCCUGGUCAACAUGGAAUUCGCGGAAACUGCUUGGUUGAUCUGCAUUAAAUGGAAUUAGUGAGCUCAGUGAUAGCAAAUCUAGCUCAGCACUUGCUGCUAAUUGCCUUUGUUCGCGCAACUCCCUUCCUUUUGAAGGUCGUUACUUCCACCUCGAGCCAAGCCAGUCUGGAUGUCUCCCCUAAUUGAGCAUUCAGAAUACUCAAAGAAUCUAGACUGCGACAGAUGACCUGUCUGACCUUCGCAUGCUAUGUGCUUGCUGCACUGAGCUUUGCUCCACCGUUGAAGGCGACGCUGGAGGUAGCAACGACACAGGUCUGAAUGACGGUGUUCUCCUGCCUUAUGAAGGGCUGCUUAGGGAAUUGGAAAACUCACAACCACUUAAAGUUCCAAAUUGACUGCCACCAUUCGAAACUAAGCCUUCAUCUGAUUCAAAAAUGUCUCGGCUUUAACAUCCAUUAGAGCCUUUGUCCUGAUGUUAAUAGAAUCUGGAUCAUAUUGCUCAGAAAAAGAUUUCGGUGCUUUGCUUCCCCCAGAGAACCCAGCUAUCCUUGAAAACUUUGUCUCAUAUUGAAUUCCCAAAACAACCAGUGGGAUUGCUACAGCUGGACCAUUUCCCCUUUUGACCAACGUGGCUGUUAAAGCUGGAAGAUGAGGUCAGAGGUGUUCCAUGAUAUCCUUGUUCGAGAUCCCUUAACAUUCAUUCCAACAGCUACCGAUUUGCACCCUUCAGUAGACAUUGCUCGGGUAAGGACUGUAGCAUAGGCGGUACCAUCUCUUGCCACAUUAUUAAUGGUAUUUGCAACCUAUUUUGCAAGGCUUGCACAAAUAUUCUUGACUGUAGCAUUAAGCCUCGAACUUCAACCCCGAAUCUGAUGUCUUUAGCAGUAUGGUUCCUGCCCUAGUUCAGCCUACUACCGAUAUGAUGGGUGUUGUGCCAAGUGGUCUGAACCUUAGGAGCAAGACUGGUGACGAGUGUGAAGGUGAUGGGUGAUGUUCACUUGCACCAUGCCCUUUUCUAAUUGGAGAUAUCACCAAUAUAAAGCAGGGUGGAUUUUCUGAUGAGAGAUUUCUAUGUCCUAGAGUGGUUCAUGUCGCAUGGGCAUAGGGAUUAAUGAAGGGGCAUGAUGAUGCCAGACGGGUAUGAGUUGUUGAUAACGGAUGUGAGGGAUAGUAGGCUCUACUAACAGAUGAACAAUGUCAUGCAAGCCUUGCACAACAAAAUGCGGAGAGCACAGUACCCGAGAAUACUUCCUUUGUCCCCUUCAACUCAUUUUCUGCUUGAACACUUCCUCUUCCUCUCAUCCUUAGAUGACAUCUCUUCUUUCAAAGGUAUCUCUUCUCUCAAAACCCAUAUAAUGAACAAGAUCCAGGAACAGAGGUGGCCUCAACCAUGAAAAGAAAUGCAUGAAAACAGAGCACAAAGGGAAACAAAUAUAAAGGUCCUCAAAGGAAGAUUCACAUCAUGAGUCAUCAGUGAACCUUCCUAUUAGGUGAGGAAAAACAGCAUCAAAUGCAAACAUUGGUGGGGUUCUCGGGCAUUUCAUAGUCACAAAUAGAAACAGAACAUAUUAAGAUUGACAAUGGCAGGUAUGAAUUCAGGAUUAUAUCUCAACAAGCAACAAGUGGCCUUCAUUAUCCACCCCAAGCAAAACAACAAAUAUCCAAAUAUCAACAAGCAAUGCAGAGGGAUAGCAAGGAUCCAAAUCAAACAAUAAACCUGUUGCCUUCAUACCUGAGAAUGUCCUUCUCCAGUAAGGCUCUGUUCUUCUACAAACACCUCAAGUUCCCCUUUAAAAUCAACGAAAACUAAUGAGACAGCAGCACCUCUUCUACUCUCCAAACACACAGCUCUCUCCCUCUUAAUUUUCUCUCAAACUAAACAGCCACCUAAAAUCCUCCAUCAACCUCUCUCUCAAAACUCCUCCUGUGAAAACUCUCCCCUCUCUCAGGUUCCUCUAAACGGCAGCCAAUAGCACCCCUACCUCUCACAGUUUGCUGCUCCCUGUUCUCUCCUCCGAUAGCCUCUCCUCUAAGCUAGAAACUUAUCCUCAAACUCUCACCCUUUUCUCCUCUGAUUCCCCUGUUUUUCUCUCUCUCUAGUCUCCCUCAGUAACCAGCCUGGAGACCCUAGUUCUCUCCCAAGCUCUCCUCUCUCGUUCCCCCAAGCAAAGGCCCCCCUAACAAUAUCUCCCGGUAGCCUCCUUCUUUUGCUCUCUAGCCUCAAAACUCUCUCUGGAAUCCCUCAGACUUCAGCAGCCCAGGUACCUCUCUCUUCUGAUUUUUCUCUAUUUUCUCUCUAAAAAUCCUCCCCCUUGAGUAACCAGCCUCCUCCUUACCCAAGCAAAGGAUCCCCUAAAAAAAUAUCUCUAACGGCCUGCUCAGAGAGCUCCUGCAGCUGCCAGACGACACCCCCUUCCAGCUGCCUGCCUCCAAAAUAUCUCAUAACUGCCUGAAGAAUCCCUUUACAGGUGUCACCCUCUGGUUUGCCUCUCAAAUCCACUACUUGAUCCUUUAGCAGCCUGUCAAGAGGCACCAUGCGGCCUCCUCAAGUUGCUCCACCUGGAAAAAUUUGCUACAACAAUUACCUCCCAAAGUGGGGGUCUACAUCAUGGAAUGGGGUUAGUGAAUAAAUGCAGAAUGAUUAUAUGUAUAUCAAGGAAUAGAGUGAAUCAAUCACGCAUGGCAAACAAAUAAAUAAAUCAAUCAAUCAAUUAUGAAGUCGAGUAUAUGGGGCCCCCACCAAAGCCCGUUUUAUCUUGCCUGAAUCGAUUCCGAUAACUCCAUUGCUCGGAAUUACAGAACUUGAUUCCUUGCUUAUUUCAAAACAUUUUAAAAAUAGAGGAAGUAUGAAAAAUUGCUUGCCAGAAAUAAAAGUGGCAGCAAAGCUUUAUCAAAAAUGUGAUUUUGGAACCUAAGGAAAAUGCUCUAAGGAUGAAGAAAAAGGUGGAACAUCGGUUGGAUAGAAUUCCGGAUGUGAGAUAUCCAGAGAAGGUGGAACGUCGGCGGAUAGGAUUCCAGGCGUGAGACACCCGGUGAUUACUACCAAAAAUUGCUAUUUUUUAGACCUAAUUAUAAUGGUUUUAAGCAUCUUUGAGUAGUAAUCAUAUUCAUUUAACCUAAUUAAUUCAUUAAGGUCCUUAGUAAUUGGUUUUAACCAUUUUGUGGCAAGUUUACAUGUUUUUAUCAGCUUAUGAAUCAAUUCAAGCAUGCCAAAUGAUGGAGGAGCUACUUGGACAAGUUAAAGCAAUGAUUUUGGAAGUUUACAGGCUUGAAUUUCAAGUGGAAACACGAGCACAAACAAAGGGAUAGCCAUUUCGCAAGGCAAGGCAAAGUACCUUGCCAAAAUGCAAUUUUCGCAAGGUGAAUUUACUCAUGAUGCGAAAAUAAGGCACUUCGCAUCAUGAGUAAUUCACCUUGCUAAAAUUUAGCAAGGUGCCUUUUACCUUGCCAAAUUACCUCUGUUUCUCCACGCACGCACCAUCGACUUCCCAGAUAUUUUUAGCUUGAUAUUUUCUCGUGUAAAUUCCUUUUGUAACCUUGUAUUCAGCCGACAUAAGGCUUUAUCUUGUAAUUUUGCUAUAUAUAGAGGUGCACAACACCUCCAAAAGAUAUUGGGGAUCGAUCCUCUGUACAUUAACUUAGAAAUAUAUAAAGCUCUGUUUUUCUCUCUUCUCCUGUUCUUCCCCAUUUCUAUUUUCUUAGUAACCAAACAACCUCUGAGGGCUUUUCCUUAGAGGAUAAUUGGCUAAAACUUUUAGUUUCUCAAAGUAUGGAUGUUAUGGGAUGGCUUGGAUGCAAUCCCAUGGAAAUUUCUCGCACCUAGAAGGUAAGGUAGUCGUUUUUCAUUAAUGGUUCAUUAAUGCAAAGUUUGGUUUUUAUUUCCUUUGGACAACUUCCAACGGCCAAUACUUGAUAAGCUUUUGGAUUUCUAUCCAUUAGUUAUCUCCUACGAACUAUUGGAAGGUGAAUUUUUCAAUUCCAAGUUUUACAUUAAUCCGUUAGAACCAAUUUCAAUGGCCAUUGAAAGGUGAGUUUAUCACCUGGAAUGACUUUGAGCUGCCAAUAUUUGGUAAGCUUUUGGUUUUAGACCAUUAGUUAUCUCUUACGAGCCAUUCAAAGGAAGUCUAAGAUGAAUAACCAUUGAUGAAAUUCACUACCAUCUGUUUUGCCAUUUUAAAGGAUUAAAACUUGAUUUGCUAAAUCCAUACCGGUUCGGGAAUCAAGCAUCACCAUAGUUGCAACCCCAACGCGAGGAGCCUAUCUUGAGAUUUCCAAUUUGCAUAAGAGCCAGAGCAUAGCUAUCCUAUCUUUGAGAAACUUGCUUUUACACCCUUUCAUUUUAGUCUUUAAUGUUAGCUUAGAUUAGUUUAAAUCUUUCUAAAACAUUUACAUCUUCUUUUAAAGCUAACAUCCAUAAGAAAAUCACCUAUUUUCCUAAUUUGAAUAUCACUAGUGUUUGCGAAAACCCUUCCCAGUGAACGAUCCUAGAACCACUAUGCUAUAGUAGUUUGGCUACUUUAGUAAUAGUAUUUAAGGUAUAAAUUUUGUUGAUACGCCUUCAAAGCUAAGCUACCAUGAGUCGCAUCACCCGGGAAAGGUGGAACAUCGGCGGAUAGGAUUCCGGAUGCGAGGCAUUCGGAUGGAAUGACAGCGGAGAGGACUCCGGGUGUGAGACACCCGAGGAAGGUGGAUCGUCGGCGGAUAGGAUUCCGGGCGUGAAACACCCGGGGAAGGUGGAACGUCGGCGGAUAGGAUUUCGGAUGCCUUGCAUCCGGAUGGAAUGACGGCGGAGACGACUUCGGGUGUGAGACACCUGGGGAAGGUGGAUCGUCGAUGGAUAGGAUUCCGGACAUGAGACACCCGGAUGGAAAUGACGGCGCAGAACGAUUCCGGGUGUGAGACACUCGGAUAGAAAUGGCAGCACAGAAGGGAUUCCGGGUGUAAGACAGUCGAAUGAAAAUGGCGGUGGGGAAGGAUUCCAGGUGUGAGACACCCGGAUGGAAAUGGCGGCGCAGAAGGAUUCCAGGUGUGAGACACCCGGAUAAGGUAGAAUGUUGUUACGAGUAGCAUGAAGGAUAGGUAUGGGUUGUGUGGAUAUGGGGGCUUGGGUGAGUGGUUUUAAUGGGUAUGCGAAAAAGUGAAGGAUAGCAUGCACCCAAGAGACCCCAUGUACGUGGGGGGAGUGGGGUGGAGAAUGAAUGAGAGGAAAAGGAGUGCAGUGGAGGAUGCCCGAUUCCUAUAAGCUUGAGUGAGGAAAUGGGUAUGACGACCUAGAAAGAAAGGUAUAUAGAUGAACGAUGGGUAUGGGGAUGCUGAUGAGGUGAGCUUUGCCGCCACGAAAACUACUCCAGAUUCUCUAGGAUCUCUUUCGAGUAGGGAUGAGAAAAUGGAUGCGUACCAUGGACGGAUAUCAAGAAACAGGGGAAGUAGAGAAACAGAGCGUGAAAGAAGACGAAUAAACAAAGAAAAAAAAGAAUCUCAGAAAAUCCAUUUCAUGGAUCAUCCAUGAACCUUCUGUGCAGGUGAGUAGAUCAUGUCAAAUGCAACCACCCCCCUGAUUCUCAAGCAUUACGUAAUCAUAGUAGGAUUAGAGUAAGUAAAAAUGGACAGUGGCAAACACAAAUACAAGGUCAUACUUCAACAAGUAGACUGGUGGCCUUCAUUAUCCACCCUAAACAGAUCAAUGAGUAUUCAAAUAUUCACAAGAGAUGUAAAAGAGUGAUAGUCAUACCUGAAAGCCUCUUCUCCCGCUAGGCGUCUCUGGCUAAACUCUCCUCUCCUCUCCCCUCUGUCUCCCUUUUUCCUGGAUUCACCUUCCUUAGCAAGUCAGUACCUGCCUCCUCCUAUUCAUGCAUCAGCCAGUAUGGCUUGCCCAACUACCGUCACUGUUGUUGUACGCUUCAUGCAGACGACAUCAAGCUCCCAGCUGGGGGUCCCCUACCCUAUCUCAAAAAAUGUAAUCCAAAACCAAGAAAAAAACCGCUCCCCCCUCCUCACAAAAAGCUCAUCUCUAACAACCAAAAAGCUCCUCCGAAUAUCCUCCAACAGGUGUCUCCACCCCAUUGCAUUUCCAAACCACUACCUGGUUCAUUGACCACCCAACCAGGAAGCAACAUCUGGCUCUUCAAGAGCCCUCCACUUGGCCAGAAGCGUGAACUGCAGCAAAUGAAAAAAACGAGCCCCAUAUGGGGGUCUACACAAACAAAGACAACAACAGAUGAAAAUAAUUAUUCAUCUGUUAGUGCAAAAUAUGAAAGAGAAGACAACAGUGUGCAUCUUCACUAUGACUGAGGAUCAAAUUCUCUUUGAGAUUGAUAUAAAUUAUUUAUAGCUUCAUUGUUCAUGGAGAGUUGAUUCAGUAGUGUCUUCCAUUUGAAGACAUACAAAAAUGGUUAGAAUUAUCUAUUCAUUUCAAGAGAUAACUUGCAUCUAUGACCCUUAUACUCCCAUGAACUUUGAGCAUCUAUUAUUUAUAAAAUAUGGAUGAAAAGAGAAUAAAAAAAAAAAAUUCAUGGGAAGUGUAUUUUGGAAAAAAUAAUUCUCAUUUGAUACAUUGGAAAAGUGUCUACCUCACAUUACCCAAAAAUGACGUUAUAUGUGUACAUGGGUCAUCAUCCAUAGUAACCCAAUUCACAUGAGGAUGGUAUAUCAUUUAUAAAGGUACAUUAAGCUCAAAACAGUGGUACAUUAUAAUCAAAACAAUAUUACUUUAAUAUCAAAAUACAUGUAAGGACAUUUUCAGGUAAUGUGAGGUAAAUACUACUAUAAUACAUUAAAUAAGAAUUAUUUUCCCAAAAAAGUACUUCCCAUGAAAAUGACUUAUGUAGGUUUUCUUUUAUUUAUUUUUUAUAAAUAGUGCAUGUUUACAUGAUUCCCUUAUUAAUAUAAUAUAAUCAUCUAUACAUGAUAAUUAAGGAAAUCGAAAAUAUUUACAUACUAAGCAAGGAUAAUGGAAAUUAAACAGUAUGAAAAAAGAGAAAAAUAAAUAUUAAAUAUAAAUUAAAACUCUAAAAUACAAGCCUUCAUUUGCACAUAUAGGCCAAUAUCUUAGGAGGUAUUUGAUUAAAAAAUAAUAAUGAUUAAAACUGGAAAAAUUUAUGGGUCCCAUUUUUUAAGUGUUUUCAAUAACAUAAUUAUAAACCUCUUAAAAUUUAAAAUCAUUUAUUUAAACCACUUUAUUCAUUUAGCAACAAGGACUUAAUUAAUCACUAAGAUCAAACAUAAUGAUUUAUAAUUUUUAUAAUUUUUUCUUCCAUUACUAUCAUUUUUUUGUUAAUAAAAUGAAGAUUUCUAUUGAUGAAUUUUUUACUAUUAAAAAAAUUAAUUCAUCUAUGAGAUUCUUUUAACUAAUCCUUUUAGAAUUUUUAUAAUUUUUUUUUUCAUAUUUAAAGAUAAAAAAAUUGUUAUGAAAUAAUUAAAUUAAUUAUAAAAUUUAUCUUUCUUUUCUAAAUCAGAAUUUUUGUCAUGUCCAUUCAUAUAAUAAAAUUAAAAUUAUAAAUAAAUAAAAAAACCUAUUUUAAUUGACAGCAUCAUGGAAUCUCUCCAUGCACACUCAUGCAGCCAGCCAUCAAUUCCCACGGCAGCCACGUGUCUUCCAACAAGUAUAUUCCCUUUCUUUGGCUCUCCACGUGUUUGUGUUCUAUUUUUAUUUAUUUAUUUUAUCCUGAUUAGUAGUUCACCGAACAAGCAUAACAAGGAUAUGAGUAGAUAUGUCAUGGCUAUGAUCACUUCUAACACUAAACCUUCUUAAACAAAGUGAGGUAUGAAUGUAGUAUGCCAGUCUAAAUAAUGGUGAAAGAAUAAAAACAAUGGAGAAUGCAUGUAAGAUGUAUAUAUAACUAUAAAUAAGGAUUCAAAAUGAGGGGAAAAAUCAUUGAGAAGGGUGAACCAUGGGUGAUAAGCCACUUUAAGGUUCAUCCUUUGGAUAAAUAUUAAAAGUUAAAGAGUAUAAAAUGUCUACUUAUGUCAUCAUUUUUUUUUUUCACUUUUAAGUUAAAUAUAUUUUUAUUGUUAUAAAUGAAGUAAUGAAUGCCACCACAUUUAUUAUAUUAAAUGUUCAUUAAAAGCAUAUAAAAAUGUUUCCUAUCCCCUAUAAAAUGCAUCCCAAGCAAAGAAAUACAUUUUCUUUCUCUUUUAUUCUCUUUUUUUAUUUUUUUAUUUUAUUUUUAUUCUCCAUAUCUUUCAUUCUUUCAACUAUCUUAAUUGUCUUUUAUGAUUCCUUCCUCUCCAUUAUAUAUCAUUGUCAAAAUAAUAUAUAGUUGUUCUCUACUUUUAUUGUCGUUGCAUUUAUCCUCUUUUUAUAAUAGGUUAUUAGCAUGAAUUGCUCUGAAGGUAAUUCUCAUAUCUUAAACUUGAAGUUAUUUAUAUAGAAUAAAAUUUUACAUAUUUAUAUUGCUAUUGUUAAAUUCAUUUAAUUUGUGUUAUAUAUUAUUAAAAGCUAUACACAAAUUAUUUGAUUUUGAUUAUAAUCAAAAGUUAUACCAAUGCCAUUAAUUUAUAACUAAUUAUAGUAAUAUUGUUUUGUCAUAUAUCUGAAGUUAUUUAACAAUGUCAAAUCUCACAAAACUCAAAUUUAUGGCACUUGACAUUUCGGGAAAGAACUAUAUAUCUUGAAUCCUUAAUGCUGAAAUACGUCUUGAUGCAAUGAAUCUUGGAGCUAUGAUUAAAGAAGGAAAUCAAGCAUCCUUGUGGGAUCACGCAAAAGCGUUGAUUUUCUUUUGCCAUCAUCUCUAUAAAGGUUUUAAAAAUGAGUAUCUUAUAGUAAAUGACACUUUUACUCUAUGGAGUAAUUUAAAGGAAAUAUAUGACCACCAGAAAAUUGUAAUUAUCCGGAAAGCCUGAUAUGAUUGGAUGUAUUCAAGGUUGUAGGAUUUCAAAACUAUUGGUGAAUAUAACUCUGCCCUUUUCAAAAUCAGGUCUCAAUUAAAGCUAUGUGGAGAAAAAAACCAUAGAAGAAGACAUGUUAGAAAAAACUUUACUACAUUUCACGCCUCGAAUGUGCUCUUACAACAGUAAUACCAAGAACGUAUAUUUACAAAAUACUCUGAAUUAAUAUCAUGUCUUCUUGUUGUUGAACAAAAUAAUGAGCUUUUGAUGAGAAAUCACUAGUCUCAUCUAAUUGGAUAUGAACCAUUCCCUAAAGUGAAUGCAAUAUUGUCCCAAACUCGUGGACAUGGGCAAUGACAAGGAAAUGGUCAUGGUCAUGGAAGGAAUCCCUGAUAUAAUGGUUAUUAUGGUAAUAAUUCCACAAAUUCUCAUAAAAUGAAAGCUUCAUUGCACCACUGAUUACUACUCAAAAAGUGCAUUUUUAUAAGCUUAAACUUAAUUGUAUUAAGCACUUUUGAGUAGUAGUUAGACCUUUUAUCCCAAUUGGCAUGUUAAGGACCUAGCAAAUGUUACUAACCAAUUUUUGGUAAGUUUUAGUGUUUUUGAUAGCUUUUUUAUCACUGAAACAGCCCAAGAUUGAGGGAGAGUUUGGAGCACAUGAAGAAUCAGAGCUUUGGAGCACUUCAAAACCCCUUGCCAAACUUGAAAAAGGGUUGCCAAAACUAUCAGUAGUAAGAUGGAGGGAAAUAGAGCAUUUCGCAAGGCAAAAUCAUCAAAUUCGCAAGGUGUGCCAAAAUUCGCAAGGUGUGCCAAACUUUCGCAGGGUGAUUACUACCAAAAAGUGCUAUUUUGUAGACCUAAUUAUAAUGGUUUUAAGCACCUUUGAGUAGUAAUCAUAUUCAUUUAACCCAAUUAAUUCAUUAAGGUCCUUAGUAAUUGGUUUUAACCAUUUUGUGGCAAGUUUACAUGUUUUUAUCAGCUUAUGAAUCAAUUCAAACAUGCCAAAUGAUGGAGGAGCUACUUGGACAAGUUAUGGCAAAGCUUUUGGAAGCUCAAAUUCAUGAAGAACCAAGCUUUGGAGCUCCAUAGCCCUUUUCCAAAGUCGUUCAAAGUAUGCAAGGAAAGAACAAUGGAAAAGAGGAAAAGCAAGCAAAGUGAAGAGAAGCAAAGAGGACAGCAGCUGCAGUCUUCUUUUGCCCUUUUGGAGCACUUACCGAAGUCCAUUUUUUACAUAAUAUAUACCAUUUCAAAGCUCUGGAAGUCAAGAAUCCAACGCUUUAAACCAUGUACGAUUUGGAGCUGAAAUGAGGAAGAUAUGGCCUUCGGAAGACAACUGCUCCAGGUUAUGCGAAAAUUUUGCACGACACAAGGUGUUAUGCGAAAUUCGCAUAACACCUUCAAAAUUCGCAUAACCCAUGCGUGGUGCGAAUUUUGCUCUGUUUUUUCCGACUCCACUUUAGAUAUUUUCCUUUGUAUUUUGUGAUGUAAUUUCCUUUCUUAUCCUUGUAACUAACCAAUCACAAGCUUUUGUUUUUGUAAAGACUAUAAAAGAGGUGGAAAUCACCUCUUGAAAAAAAGAGAACAUGCGUGUUAGGUUUUAUACAGAGCUCUCUCGUUUCUCUUUUCUCUUUACUAUUUUAUUUUCUUGGAAGCCAAACAGCCUCUGAGGGCUUUUCCUUAGAGGAUGAUUGGCUGAAACUUUUAGUUUUUCAAAGUAUGGAUGUUAUGUCAUGGCUUGGAUGCACUCCCAUGGAAAUUUCUCGCACCCGAAAGGUAAGGUAGACGUUUUUCAUUAAAGGUUCAUUAAUGUAAAGUUUGGUUUUUAUUUCCUUUGGACAACUUCCAAUGGCCAAUACUUGAUGAGCUUUUGGAUUUCUAUCCAUUAGUUAUCUCCUACGAGCUAUUGGAAGGUGAGGUUUUCAAUUCCAAGUUUUGCAUUAAUCUGUUAGAACCAAUUUCAAUGGCCAUUGAAAGGUGAGUUUAUCACUUGGAAUGACUUUGAGUUGCCAAUAUUUGGUAAGCUUUUGGCUUUAGACCAUUAGUUAUCUCUUACGAGCCAUUCAAAGGAAGUCUAAGGUGAAUAACCAUUGAUGAAAUUCACUACCAUCUGUUUUUCCAUUUUAAAAGAUUAAAACUUGAUUUGCUAAAUCCAUACCGGUUCGGGAAGCAAGCAUCACCAUAGUUGCAACCCCAACGCGAGGAGCCUAUCCUGAGAUUUCCAAUUUGCAUAAGAGCCAGAGCAUAGCUAUCCUAUCUUUGAGAAACUUGUUUUUACACCCUUUCAUUUUAGUCUUUAAUGUUAGCUUAGAUUAGUUUAAAUCUUUCUAAAACAUUUACAUCUUCUUUUAAAGCUAACAUCCAUAAGAAAAUCACUUAUUUUCCUAAUUUGAAUAUCACUUGUGUUUGCGAAAACCCUUCCCAGUGAACGAUCCUAGAACCACUAUGCUAUAGUAGCUUGGCUACUUUAGUAAUAGUAUUCAAGGUAUAAAUUUUGUUGAUACGCCUUUAAAUCUAAGCUACCAUGAGUCGAAUCACAGGGUGUGCCAAACUUUUGUAGGGUGUGCGAAAAUCACUUUGUGCGCACCGACCUUUGAGAUUUUUCUCCAGAACUGUAAUUGUUCCUUUUUAAUCCUUUUGUAAUAGAUUCAUUACAUUAGGGUUUGUUUAGGAACUAUAAAUAGGGGUUGGAAAACCUCUCAAAAGAUAUUAUGUUAGGAUAGAUAUUAUGUUUUAGAUAUUUUGUAAAGUCUGAGUUUUUCUCUGCCUUUCCUUCUCAUUUUCUCUUCACUUUCUCUCUAACCACACACCCUCUGAGGAUGAUUUCUCAGAGGAUGAGUGGCUAAGUUUCACGUUUCUUGGAGUGAUGGAAGCUAGGUAAAGGACCCAGAUGCAAAGGUAUGAGUUUUCCUUACUUUAAAUGAAGGUAGUUGUGUAUCAUUAAUGGUUUAUAUUUCAAGUUUCAGUUUUAAUCCCUUAGAAUCACCUUGAAUGGUCAAUACUUGGUAAGCUUUUAGGAUUCUAUGGAUGCUUAUUGCUAGAUCCAUGGAUGUCCAUUAGUUAUCAAGUACUAGCCAUUGGAAGGUGGUUCAAGGUGAGGGUCUUUAGUGUUUGAAGCCAUUAAUGGGAAGCAACUACCAUUUUUCAAGAAUCCUUUGGAUCAAAACUUAUAUGCUAAAUAUAAAUCCGGUUCGGGAGAUAACCAUCCUUUAUGUUAUUGUCCCCAAUGCAAGGAGAAGAUCUGGAAUUUCCUGCUUUGCAACAGGAACCUGAUCCUAGUAACCAUAGCUCCAAGAGACUUUCUCUUUAUAAUAAUUUCAAUUGUUUAUGUUUGCUUAACUUAAAAUCAACCCUUCCAAUCAAUCUUAUUUUCAUUUAAAAACUAACUUCCAAAAAGGAAAUCACCAUUUCUUCUUUUAUUAAUGUUAAGUGUACAAAGAAAACCCAUCUCUGUGGAUGAUCCUAAAGCCACUAUACUAUAGUAGCUUUGUCCUUGCUAUCCUAGUAUAAGGUGUUGUAGGUUUUAUAAAUGUUUUGAUAAACACCCGACUGGGCAUGAAUCAAAUGGCGUUGUUGCCGGGGAUGGUGCCUAAGCGCAUAAAUGUUACCUUUUAUGAGUACUUGUGAUCUUCAUCACAAGUUGGUGAUUUUUCUUUCACUAACUCAUUUUCUUUGUUUUUAUUUUAUCUUAUCUUUCAUUUAGUUUUUAGAUAACCUUAAAUAUUUUCCUAGAAUUGUAGUCCUUUUUGUUUUCUUUGUUUUUGUUUCAGUAAUCUCGGGUUGUGUAUGCCCUAUUAGAUAAGAGAUAUUGAGGGAAGACUUGUGAAAAUUGAAACUCCUCAAGAAACUGAGUUGGAAGUCUGCUUGAACAUCAUGGAUUGUCCACAUGAAGAUCAGCAUAGCCAACAUGGGCAAGAGGAGAAUCUCAAUGCAUACCGAUCCAUGAGGGACCGCAUGCAUCCACCUUGAAUGAGUGCACCUUCAUGCAUAGUGCCUCCCACUAAGCAGCUAGUGAUCCGACCUCAUAUAGUGCCACUUCUACCUACUUUUCAUGGGAUGGAAAGUGAGAACCCCUAUUCUCACAUCAAGGAGUUUGAAGAAGUGUUGAUUACUACCCAAAAAGUGUUAUUUUGCUCCUUUAAUUCAUUAUGUUUUAAGCACUUUUGUGUAGUAGUUCUCCAUCUUUAUUCCAAUUGGCAUGUUAAGGACCUAGCAAUGACUUCUAAUCAUAUUUGUGGCUAGAUUUAUUGUUUUGACAGCUUUUUGGAUCAUUAAGACAAGCCAAGUAAAGGAGAGAAGCAAAGAGGAAAACAGAGUGAAGAAAAUAGAGGACAGCAUCUGCAGUAUUCCUUUGCACUUUUGGAGCACUUAAUGAAGUCCAUUUUCUACAUGCUAUAUACCAUUUAAAAUAUCAGGAAGUCAAGAAUCCAACGCUUCAAACCGUGUAUGAUUUGGAGCUAAAAUGAGGAAGAUAUGGCCUUCGAAGACAACUGCAUCAAGCUAAGUGCGAAUUUCGCACAGCAGCCCAAGCAAGUGCGAAUUUCGCACCACCAGCCAUGCAAGUGCGAAUUCGCACCAGCCCAUGCUUCUUUGGUGCGAAAUCUCCUCUGUUUUUCCGACUCCACAUGAGAUCUUUUCUUUUGUAUUUUUUGAUGUAAAUUCCUUUCUUAUCCCUGUAAUUAGCCAAUCACACGCUUUGCUUUUGUAAAGAUUAUAAGAGGGGUGGAAAUCAUCUCUCGAAAAAUGACGAACAUAUGUUAUGUUUUACACUUAGUAAAAUACAGGGCUCUCUUUGCUUUCCUUUUCUCUCUACUAUUUUCUUUUUCUUGGAAGCCAAACAACCUCUAAGGAUGUUUUCCCAGAUGAUGAGAGGCUAAACCUUUGGUUUCUUGGAGUGAAGGAAGCUAGGUGAAAAGUCCAGAUGCAAAAGUGGAAAACUCUCGUGCAUUAAAUACAGGUAGUUGGAGUUCAUAAAUGGCUUUUAAAUCUAAAGUUUUGCUUUAAAUCCCUUAGAAUCACUUUGAAUGGCCAAUACAUGUUAAGCUUUAGGUCUCUGUGGAUACUUAUUGCUAGAUCCAUAUCAGACCAUUAGUUAUCAUGUAUGAGCCAUUGGAAAAUGGCUCAAGGUGAAGACCCAUAGUGUCUAAAGCCAUUAAUGGAACCUGACUACCAUUUCUAUUGACUUUUUAUGGAUUAAAUCUUCAUUGUUAAACCUAUACCGGUUCGGGAAACAACCAUCCUUUAUGUUGUUGUCCCCAAUACGAGAAGAAGAAUCCGGAAUUUCCACUUUGCAUUCUGAACUUGAUCCUAGCAACCCUUAUCUUCGGGAGACUUUCUUUCUUCCAUUUUUACCUAGUUCUAUAUUAGUUUAGCUUCAAACACCACUUUCAAAAAAAAAUUUAUUUUCCUUUAAACUUUAAGUUUUUGACAAAGGAAAUCAUCAGAUUCAAUUUCUAAUCUUGAGUAUAUCAUUGGUAGAAUGAAAACCCAUCCCAGAUUUCGACCCUAGAGCUGCUAUACUAUAGUAGCUUUGCUACGCUAGUAUGAGGUCAUAGGAUUUAUAAAUAUUUUUUAUUAAAACACCCGACUGGGCACGAAUCAAAAUGGCGCUGCUGCCGGGGAUGGUGCCACUUUACAGUGAUAUGACCUUUUCAGAGUACUUGUGAUCUUUAUCACAAGUUUGGUGACUUUUCUUUUCCUUUUAUUAACUCUUUUUUUUUGUUUAUUUUCCUUUGUUCAUGUUUUAGUAUAUCUUUUAUUUAGAUUUUAGUUAAUCUUAAUAAUUUUCUUUAGAAUUUUAUUUUCUUUUGUUUGCUCUGUUUUUAAUUCACAAAUUGCUAGUUGUGCAUGCCAUUUCUAAAACACUAGUGCAAGCUAUGUCGUGUGCCAUUUGUCAAUCUUUUGAGCACUUGGUGGAGGAGUGUCCUAUCCUUCCAGCAAUGAGGGAGAUGUUUGGUAUGCCAUGUGGCAUUUGUCAGUCUUUUGAGCACCUGGUGGAGGAGUGUCCUAUCAAUCCAGUGGCAAGAGAGAUAUUUGGUGAUUAUAACACCUACAAUUCAUUUUGUAGGAAUCAUCCAAAUUUCUUUUAGGAACCACAACCACGUCAGUACAUGCAACCCGCUCAAGCACCACAUCAAGCCUUGAAACUUGAACAAGCAAUUGUGAACCUUACCAAGGUUGUGGAAGACUUUGUAGCACACUAGAAAUCCAUCAUUGAUCAAUUCAGGCAAGAAAAUGCUCAAGUCAGGCAAGAAAUUGAUAGCCAAGACAGAAAGAUGGAUGGGAGGUUGAAUGAUUUGUCUCAGAAGACAGACAAUCUUGAAUACUCAAGCUCAAGGCUUAUCAACCUCAACACAGAGCGAGAAAAAGAAAACUUUCCUUCUCAACCAUAUCAACAUCUCAAGGGUAUCCAUAAAGAGGAGGCCCAAAACGAAGAAAAUUCAAUGGUGAGGAAAGUCAAAGUAGUUAUGGUUGAUCAGCCCAUAUUCAAGCCAAAGCAUGAUGAAGGGUUACCUGAACCCUCAGAGAAGCUUGCUAAUCUGUUCCAUUGGACGAGAACAAAAGAAAUGUAGCCCUUAUUGAAUGCGGUGGAGAUACAGAGACAUGCGAAGGAGGAGCCCCCAAAGCUUAUUCUUAACUCGCUACCUCUAAAGAUGAAAUAUGCAUACCGGGUAGAAGACAAGCUGAAACAGGACCAGUUUUUUUUUUUUUUUAUAGACUUAGUCUUUCUAAAGACUAGCUAGUCCAUAUAUUUUUGUUUUAUUUUUAAAUUUGUUUUGAUUUUGAUUUCUUGCUUUAAUUUUAUUUUGGUUUGAUUUAACUUGGGUUUUUUUAUGAUCAACACAGGGGAAGCCAAAAACAGAGGAAAACAGAGCAAUUUGCACCACCCUACCCCCUUGUGCAAAAUUGCUUUUGUGAGCAUUUUCCAAAAAGCAUGCUCUCGGUCCCUACCCAAAAUCUUAGUGCAAAAAUGCACAGGAAUGCGAAAAUUUUUGCCAUCACUAUUCACUUUGUGCGAAAUUCGCAUUUGCUCUUUAAAAGCCAAUUUCUCUUCUUAAAAUCUAAGUUUGUUCUUCUUCAAUCCUCUCAACCCCUCUUUUCCGAUCACUCCUUUCCAUCCACAAGGUCCUCUCCUUCAUCAUCUCCCAUCCUAAAACCCCACCAUGGCAGCCCAUCUCAAAAGCUUCAUUCCAUAGUCGCGGCCAUCACUAUUCACAACAGCCCAUGCCUUUCAUUUUCAGCUUUUUCUCCUCCUUCCACCAUAAAAAACCCUUCAUUUCUUCACUCAACACUCCAAAUCCAUCCCUAAACCCAACCCAACCUUGAUUUUUCAAAAUCAAAACCUCAAGCAUAGGUUUCAAAGCCUCGAUUUCUUCAUAAGAAACCCAUUGUCGCCGGGUAUGGGAGCUUCAAAAUCUCUCAUUCUCUUCUUGUAAAGCUCCCAUUUCCAAGCUUAGCCACCAUGAAAAACUCCUUUCCUACCUCAGCCAGCAUUUCCCACCCUCAAAAACCAAGAAUUGUUGCCAUUUGAAACCACCACAAUUUCGCAUUUGCACGGGUGAAUAGUGCAUUGUGUGAAAUUCGCACAACACAUUUCCCUUGUGCGAAAUUCGCACCACCCUUCCCUUGUGCAAAUUUUUGAGCUUCUUCAUCCCUACCUUCCCUAAUCCCAAGCCUCUGAGCCUCAUUUCUUUGUUCCAUUAUGCCUAAGACCCGAGGAGGCUAUGCCUCAGCUCCCUAGAGCAGUCAGAGAGCUGCCCCUGUGCAGGCCCCACUAGAUGUACCCCCAUAUUUACCUGAUUCUGUCCCUUAGCGCAGAUACCAUACGAGGAGAGCAGUUGCCAUGCUUGUGGCCCCUACUCAGAUUCCACCUAGGAGUCCUCCUACAAAGAAAGCCAAGACUUCAAAGCCAAGAGAGUCCUCCAGAGCACCUCGAGAUUCACAGUCUCAGCCUCCUCCCACCAAGCGCCCUAUCCUCGCCAGCUCGCCCAUUGAGGGCAACUCCGAUUGCCGAUCGAGAGCAUUCCAUGUCGAGGCAUAUUUUGAUCACUCUAUUUUGCGACAGCAGCCUGAGUUAGGGGAUUCAUACCGCAUACUUGAGAGGUACCACCUUAUACCCUUUAUGACUCCCCCACAGUUCUUUUAUCCUCAAGUAGCUUUAGACUUUUACCAGUCUAUGACUACUCGUGGCGUCCCGGUACCAGCCUCGAUCCUUUUUGCCAUUGAUGGAUGCCAGGGUAUUUUGGGGGCUAGACAGAUUGCCGAGGCUUUCCAUAUCCCUUAUGCACUAGCAGAUCCCGCUACAUUUAGACGUUGGGCCCCACUUUCUGAGUGGGACAUGGUUCGUAUACUAUCUCGAGGGACAUCUUCACAGAGGAUCAUUAUGAGGAAGGAGCUUCCCCCUGGGAUGCUCCUAGUUGAUGUGGUGCUUUGUAACAAUCUUUUUCCUCUUCAGCAUAAAGUGUAAAGGCGAGGGGCCAUUCUAAAGGCAUUAUUCCGUAUCUCUGAGGACUACUACUUUAGCCCCCAUCAUUUGAUUAUGGUCGCCCUCCUCCAUUUUGAGGAGAAGGUGCAUAAGCGGCGUCUUACGAGGGCAAACACCAUUCUUUUAUUUUUCCCUCGACUGCUAUGCCAUGUUCUAGCGCAUAUGGGUUUCCCUGCAGACCCUCAUUCUGAGCACCGUCGCCAUUAUCGAGAGAACUUCUCUCUUGACCAAUGGAAUCAGGUAUGGCUCCAUCAACAUUCCCCAGAACUUCCCGAGCCAAGGGAAGUCCCUCCACAGCCUUUACCAUCUAUAUCUGCUCCGUCCACUUCAGCUCCCUCGGAGCCCGUACCAGAGGCAGCAUUGUCUGACACCCCACCUGUUGUUCCUCCUACCUAAGAGCCACCCAUUACUAUCCCUGGUGCAGAGUAUCGUGACUUGCUCGCUUCUUUCCAGACUCUGACCACUACUCAGACGGCUAUUAUGGAGCGGAUGGACCACUUCCAGCUUCGGUAGGACCAACAGACUCUCAUUCUCUGUGAGAUUCAGCAGCACCUCGGUCUUUUGCCACCAGCUCCACCUGUUGCUCCUGUGCCCUCAGAGCCUUCUACUCCAGCUGAUGAUGCUACACCUAUAGCGGUACCUUCCACAGUUGCAGCGGAUGACCCCUCCUAUCCACCAGAGGAGCCUACUACUUGAUCAUACGAUCACUCCUCUCAUUUUUUGAUUUGUAUCUAUAUUCUAUGUUUUUGGAUGUGUUAUAUAUUUUGGACUACUUUUAUAUUGGGAUUGGAUGUGUUCCAUGUUUAUCUUGUAUAUUGUACUCUCUCAGUUUAUAUAGACAUCUUCCUUUUUGUGUAUUUUAGUUUUUUCUUUUUAUUUCCUCUAAUCAUCACUCUUAUGAUUUUUCUUUUCUUAUGCAACAUGUGGUUUCUCCUAUUCAUUUAGAGUCCCUUACUAUCAGGAGGUAUCACUUCCUCCCUUUUUAUUAUCACUUGUUUUUGGAACAUUGGGGACAAUGUUCAUCCUAGUUGGGGAGAGAGUUGAGGAAGUAAUUUAUUGAAUUUUUAGUUAAGUUAUUUUGCUAACAAAUUUUUUGCAAACUCUUUUUGUUUUCUCAAAGAUAAAUUCUCAAAAAUAAAUGGGAGAAAUUAAAUUCUUAUCUUAUUGCCAUAGUCUUAGAGUUUGUAUUAUGCUUAUUAAAGUUGAUAAAUUGUUGAAGCUCCUUUUGAUUUCAAUCUUAAGUCUUCCACUCUAAUCUUUUCACACACUGAACACAUUAGAUUCCAGUUAUAAGAUGGAAAACUUUCUCACCCCCUAAACUUAGGAAAUUUUCGACUUGGUGCCUUUGACCUCAUUCUAUUAGUGUUGGGACACCUUAUAAAAGGCCAAUGUGUCUUAUGAAAAAAUUUGCUUCACUUGCUUUGAAACUCGAGCAAGGUUCGAGGGGUAUAUGGUGAAAAUCUUUGAAGUCUGGUGCCCUAAGCCUUUAUUGGUUGGGAGUCACUGACCUCACUGCUCGUUACAUAGGUGGAUGGGUGGAGUUCAAAAAAAAAAAAAAAAAAAAAAGGUGCGUUCUUAGCCUUUUAUAUGGGGGUUAGUGUUGCUAAAGUUAGAGAAAAACCUUAGUUGGGGGGAGAAUAUAGUUUGACAUACUAUAACUGGAAACUAAGCACCUUAACACUUAGAUUUUUGUGGAAGAUUAAGAGUUGGUCCUUUGGGAGUGGAAAUUAUUGUGAUACUCAAAUUUGCAUAAUGCCCACUCUUUGUAUGUUGUGAUAUGUAAGUUAUUUGAUGACUCUUGUUGAUGAUUGAGUUUUAUAUCCUUGACUUGCCAUGUGAGAUUUUGAUCUAAUCAUGCCACUUGAUUAUUUUUUCGAGUGAUCAGCAUGAUUUUGUAAAUUAUUAUAUUAUCUAUUUUUCUUUAUUUUUCUCUCCUUCAUUGCUCAGGUACUAGCAAUGUGUCAGUUGGGGGGAGUGAUUACUACCCAAAAAGUGUUAUUUUGCGCCUUUAAUUCAUUAUGUUUUAAGCACUUUUAUGUAGUAGUUCUCCAUCUUUAUUCCAAUUGGCAUGUUAAGGACCUAGCAAUGACUUCUAAUCAUAUUUGUGGCUAGAUUUAUUGUUUUGACAGCUUUUUGGAUCAUUAAGACAAGCCAAGUAAAGGAGAGAAGCAAAGAGGAACACAGAGUGAAGAAAACAGAUGACAGCAGCUGCAUUCUUCCUUCGCACUUUUGGAGCACUUACCAAAGUCCAUUUUCUACAUGCUAUAUACCAUUUCAAAGCUCAGGAAGUCAAUAAUCCAACGCUUCAAACCGUGUACAAUUUGGAGCUAAAAUGAGGAAGAUAUAGCCUUCGGAAGACAACUGCAUCAAGCUAAGUGCGAAUUUCGCACAGCAGCCCAAGCAAGUGCGAAUUUCGCACCACCAACCAUGCAAGUGCGAAUUUCGCACAGCCCAUGCGUCUUUGGUGUGAAAUCUCCUCUGUUCUGCCGACUCCACAUGAGAUCUUUUCUUUUUUAUUUUUUGAUGUAAAUUCCUUUCUUAUCCCUGUAAUUAGCCAAUCACAGGCUUUGCUUUUGUAAAGACUAUAAGAGGGGUGGAAAUCAUCUCUUGAAAAACGACGAACAUAUGUUAUGUUUUACACUUAGUAAAAUACAGGGCUCUCUUUGCUUUCCUUUUCUCUCUACUAUUUUCUUUUUCUUGGAAGCCAAACAACCUCUAAGGAUGUUUUCCCAGACGAUGAGAGGCUAAACCUUUGGUUUCUUGGAGUGAAGGAAGCUGGGUGAAAAGUCCAAAUGCAAAAGUGGAAUACUCUCGUGCAUUAAAUACAGGUAGUUGGAGUUCAUAAAUGGCUUUUAAAUCUAAAGUUUUGCUUUAAAUCCCUUAGAAUCACUUUGAAUGGCCAAUACAUGUUAAGUUUUAGGUCUCUGUGGAUACUUAUUGCUAGAUCCAUAUCAGACCAUUAGUUAUCAUGUACGAGCCAUUGGAAAAUGGCUCAAGGUGAAGACCCAUAGUGUCUAAAGCCAUUAAUGGAACCUGACUACCAUUUCUAUUGACUUUUUAUGGAUUUAAUCUUCAUUGUUAAACCUAUACCGGUUCGGGAAACAACCAUCCUUUAUGUUGUUGUCCCCAAUACGAGAAGAAGAGUCCGUAAUUUCCACUUUGCAUUCUGAACUUGAUCCUAGCAACCCUUAGCUCCGGGAGACUUUCUUUCUUCCAUUUUUACCUAGUUCUAUAUUAGUUUAGUUUCAAACACCACUUCCAAAACAAAUUUUAUUUUCCUUUAAACUUUAAGUUUUUGACAAAGAAAAAACCAAAAGCAACCCUGAAUCAAGUACCAAUUAAACACUAAUCUAAAUUAAAGUGAUCGUGAGAAGUUGCCAACUCAUAUUGGCUGGUGUAAAGUUUUUUUGGGAUUCAAUAGGUUUUGAUAUACUUCCCUUAAACCAUCGCACUUGAAUUUAAAGGCUAGAAUCAAGAAGCCUAAUGAAACUUGGUACAAGCUCAAUUACUGGACUUCUUAUUAAUUAACCAGGAGCAUCAAGUGACAAGAUAUUCACAAAAUCUAUCAAAGCAAUGAAAAUUGUGUAUCCUACAUAAUUUGAUUGUAGAGCUGAUUUCAAAUCCAUUACUCGAACUUAAAAGGAAAAAAAUUGAAGACAAUUUUGUGAGGACAAAUUAAAAUUGUGAGGAUCCCGAAUUCAACAAAUUAGCAUUUCUCUACCGGGUGCAAUUUGGCAAAUUGGUUUGACCUAACUUGAAUCUUGGUGAAGUUGAGAAACCAUUUAUAGUACUCAAGUUAGGAUUUGGUCGAGUUUCUCAACCAAAAGUUAUUUUGGGUUGAGUUCAAUUUUGGGCUAAGUUCAAACCAAUGCUUCAACAAUCUAAGCUGAAUUAAACUCCAUUAAUAUUUUAUAAUAUUUAUAGAAUAUAUUACUAUAUAAUAAUAUCAAUUUUUUUUCUAAAAUAAGUUUAAGGGAAAAACCAUCAAAAUAUAUUAAGCUAACUCUCAGAAAUUUGCCUAUCCCCUUGUGAACACUAUUUGGAAGGAAAAUUAAUUAGGAAGCCUCUUAAGCAAGCCAAAAAGGUAUCUGGUCCUUUGUAGCCUAUGCAUUCCAAAGUACAGGGCCUAAUGAACAUGCGAGCCAAGCAUGGUGCCUACUACUUCAUCACAUUUGCGGAUGGUUAUAUCUACAAGUCCAAAGAAUUGCUUUGAUUUAGAUGUUAUAUGAAUAUUGUUAAAAAAAAUGAAAAGAAAAAACUAUUACAACAUUAAGGAUAAAUCAUGGACUUGAGUAUCCAUUGAAGAGUUUUAAAAAUCUCUAUGAUGAAAAGGAAAUCCAAAGAACAAUCAAUGGCUUCAAGGACUCCACAGUAAAAUGGUUGAACUAAAAAAAGUAACCAUAAACUUUUGGAUAUGGUUCACUCAAAAAGGCACAAGCCAACUAUCUAACAUCUUUCAGGGUGGGAAAUGAGGGUUACUAUUUUGAUUGAAUAGAGUGCCCUCAAAAUCAAUUACUUCAAAUCCAUAUAGUUAAGAAGUCAAACCUAGCUCACUUGUGAUCCUAAGGGUUAGCAAGUUUAGUUCAUGUAAAUUUUCAUAGAUAUUGUGCUAUAAAGGAAACAAGUGCACUUUCAUUAGAUAUUCUAAUAAAUCAAAGGUUGUGUGAUGCUUAGUGAACAACUCAAUGGGAGUAUAAUUGAAAUAAAGUCAUAUGAAGUCAAUUUCUUAUAGGAUGAUAUUUUUAGUAGAGCAGCAUUGAACAAGAGUCUCAAUUUAUUUGAGGCAAUUAAACCAAAGGAAAAUACUAUGAUAUCUCAUAUCGAAUAGGAGAAAAAGUUCUUGACAUUAUAUAUAUGAGCUUCUCUUAAUUAUUUAGACACAUUUUAAUGUUGUAAGGGCUCUUUGAGCCCAAAGUGGAUGAUAUAUAUUUACACGGUUGGGAGUGAGUCAUUACAAAUGGUAUCAAAGUGUAUCCUCAACCAUGGUAUGGGAGUUUAUCUCAUCAUUGUAAUUAUGGGCAUUAAGGUGAAGCUUUCAUGUUUGCAUGAUAUGAUGUAACCAUAAAUGGAGUUCAUUAAUACUUAUAUUAUGACUUCGAAUUUCUAUUCACUAUCCUAUUUAUGAAUUAUGUAUGUUAAGCAUUCAAACCUACAUCACUUGCAUGUACAUGACUUGAGUGAAUUAGGAGUCACAUGAAAAAUCUAAGUCAUAGAUUCCUUACAAGUUAAUGACUCGUUCACAAUUGGUUCAUGGACUUUAAUAAACCAUUUGAGGCUAUAGUGCACUACCUCCUAAUUGGAGGGAUGACUUGCCCUAGUCAUUAGGAUGGGUUCCCCAUGGUGAGUGUACUAGUGUGUUUAAUUAUGUUGGGAAACCUAGAUAUUUCCAUUCCCAUAACCCUAGAUCGUAUAGGUGCAUGCAAAAUACCCUAGGCCUCUAAAUCCUAUGAACCAGAAGCAAAAAUCAAAAUUUUAACAUUCUAUAAUCUAGGGAAAAGUCACUAAAAACUUUGAGAAAAUUAAAGGCUAAUCUUAAUAGAGAAAACACCCAAGAGAUGAGGAAGGGGGUGAAUUGGGUUUUUAAAAAAUAUUUUUCAAACACCACAAAUUCAAGAAAAUGAAACACAAAUAUAAAGAUAUAAGGUUAGAAAGAGCAAACUUAGAUUUUAUAGUGGUUCAGCACUUCCUUGCCUAUGUCCACUCUCCUCAACCUCUUAACCGAGUGAAGGUUCCACUAUACUUGAAGCUUCAACUAAGCUUUUAAUCACCUUUACACUUGGAUUCCGGCUCCAAUGGGCUAUUACAUAAUCCCUUCAAGUCUUAACUCACUUGAAUCUUUUAGCAUUCAAAUAACAAGUUUGAAUCUCUCAACCUAGCCCAACAAGGGCUCAAAUACAACUUAAAUGUUAGGAAGAAUCACAAAGGUGCACUAAGAAAUAUGCAAAUGGAUAUUGAAUGCACUAAGGAAAGAAUGAGAGCUUUUGAGGCAAGAACAAGUAGGCAAACAAAUAAAUGCAGGUGUUCUCUACCUCAUAAAUGAAGUGGAGUUCUCAAUUUAUAGGUUUCUAGCCUUAAGAGUAAAAAAUGCCAAAAAGCGGCCAUGAUCAGUCGAGUUAGGGUUACUAGCCAUUGGAUAAUAAAUGCAUUGUAGGUGAUUGUUACGCCUCAACCGGUUUUUGACCAAAUCUCGACCAGAUCUCGACCGAGAAGGCAUAUCCCUUGACCAGGAAUGCAAAGCUAUAAGAAGAGAGAGAAGAUUUUUUGCAUUUCUCGACUGGACCUCGAUCAAGAAGGUGUAACCGAUCGACCAGUGCCCUAGCCGAUUGAGCCAGUUGGCUAGUGCCUUGACGAGUUCACCAUUUUUUGCCUGAAAACUUUUUUUUUUUUUUUUUGUUCUUUUCUCUUCUAACACUUAGGCAAGGUAUUUAGGUAAAUUAAUAUGCCAAUUUUGAAACAAUUUGUCUAAGGUUCAUCUGAUAAAACUCGGGUUUUGACGAAAAUGUAACUUUAAUGCCUAAACUGAGUUUUUAAAGUGCAUGAAAAGAUAUGAAAAUCCUAUGUGCACAAUGCAUUCAUCUUAGAUAUGUUUCCUAUUAUUAAAGGGUCUUUCAAUUGUCUUGAUCUUGCAUCCAUUGGGUUCUUUUAUGAAUUUCCAAACUAAUAUAUGAAAUUCUUUAUAAUUCAAACCAAUUAAUGACUUAACCAUGGUUUGUUAUCAUCAAAACGUGAUUAGGAGAACCCUUGGGCUAACAAACUUUACAUUUGAUUUAAAUGGUUCUUAAAUCAAUUAUGCUUAGUGAAUGUGAAGCCUAAAGAGUCCAGAGGUCUCACACAUCGAAAAUCUUUUGCUUGAUGACUUGAUCCACGAUCUUGCCACUCCAAAAUGGGGGCUUUUGAAGAGAGAAAUCCUAGGCUCUCUCUUUUUAGAGUUAGAAGAUGAUUGUCUCUCAAAAAGUGAUUGCAACCCUAACCUUUAAAUGGUAUUUAUAGAAUUUCCCUACUGGGCUUAAAUGACUUGAGCCCACUAAGGCUUGGGUCACUUAAUCUUGUAUAAAAUAGGUCUUAAUUGAUUAAUUAACCAUACAAGAUCAUCUAAUUACCUAAUUCAUGUCAAUGAGAUAAUAAAGAGAAAACAAAAAAUAUAAAUAAAUUUCUAUCUGUUACAUCAUGUCAUGCUUUUUAGGGCUCAAUCCUAAUAGGUUACACAUUAGAUAGGAUUUAUGGUGAGUCAGACAUUGGUCAUUAGGUAGUCUUGACUUCACGAAGCUACUAUGUUGCAUAAGCUCUCAACCUUGAGAGAAUAUUGAUCUAGUGCUAAGGUCUUCAAUGGCUUUGACCCAUGAGUGAGACCCUAAAGUGGUCAUAUAUUCUCUAUAAAUUGAGUCACUAUGAUUGAGGCAUGUGAUAAUGGGUAUUCUCAAGAUAAGCACCAUGAUAUCUUAAGGGAUUGAAACAUUAUAUCCCCUUAGAUGAUCAUAAGGACAUGUGAUUGUGAAAAUUAUGGUCAUAAUAAUUCCUUAAGUGGAAUUUGACAGAUGCUCUUGAAGAGAUAUAGUAUGUCAAUUGAUCACAUAAUAGGAGGAUCUAAGACUCAAGGAUUGUAGAAGUAGUCUUGAGAGGUUGAUAACAUUCAUUUUGUUAAAUUAUGGAUAAUAAUUCAUGAGGAGCUUGCAUGCAAUUGCUAGUAGGUCACAAACUGAAGUUUUCUAUCUCGGUCUAAUAUCAUAAAGAUACUAAAGUGUAGUUGACUCUCUAGAGUUAGAUUUUGAGUCAACUUUAAAAUUGGAUUUUAAGGGAGCUAGUACUUCCCUAUGGAUCCUAGUGGUUCCCACUCAAACUCAUAUUCCUUGGUCAAAAAAUAUUUGAGGAAUAGUAGGAUUCUUUAUUUAUAUGUGUGUAUAAGAGCAUUUUGGUAAAUACAGAAGGUUGCACAAGUACAUAUAAAUAGUCUUUUAAAUCAGAUAAUUAAUUAAUUGAAGCUUAAUAGAUAAAUUUAGUUAAUUAGGACCUAAUGAGUUAGAUUAAGUAACCCAAACAUAAGAUGAGCUCAAGUCACUCGAGCUAAGAGGUAAGCCUAUAUAAACUCCUUAAAGGGUUUAAGGCUUAGUACUUUUCAGCUAUUCAAUCUUCUACCUUAAUAUCUAUCCCCGUAGAGAGGAUUCUAACACCCUUGUGUAUUAGGAUACAAGAAAGAGAGUUAUCAGGCAAAAGAUCAUGAGUUAUUUGAGAUCUUAAUUAACCUCUUCACCAAUUAGAUUUAAUUCUUUGAGCACUUAAAUCUAAUAUUCAUUGUUCUGAAUUCUCCCAUUACAUAGUUCUAGCAUUUCUACGAAGAUAGUGUCAUGCACCUAAUGAUCUAGGGCUUGAAGUUAAGUAAUCUAGAUGUUCCAACACAUCAGAAGUAUAAAUUUUUUAAUAAUGUUCUCUUAUCCAUACUUGUGAAAUAUGGAAAGCUAUAGUGAAAUAACAUAUGAAGUUUAUUAGCAAGAACUCUAUUUGAGAAUUAAUUGAACUAUUGUUAAGACAUAAGACCUUAAGGAAUAAGUAGGUUUUUAAGGUCAAACUUUAGGCAAAUGAUGCAAGUUGUUAAACUUAACUCAUGAAGAAAGGCUACAACCAAAAUGAGAGUGUAGAGUAUAAAAAAAAAAAAAAAAAAAAAAAAAAGAACUUCUCAUGAGAAGUGAGGUUUGCCUCAACUCUCCUUAUUCAACCAUUAUCACAUUUUGGAUUUGAAAUUAUAUCAAAUAAACAUUCAAAUCAUUUUUUUUUCAAUGGAGAACUAAAUAAGAAGAACUAUAUAGAUCAACUAACUUGUUUUAUGGCAACUAAAUAGAAAGUCAAAGUUAACAACUACAAAGGUCCAUUUAUAGCCUACAAUAAUCAUUUAAACAAUGGUAUAUUACACUAAUGGGUUUAUGAUGGUCUAAGAACACUAUUACAUGUUUGUUAAAUGGUGUAAGGGUAGAUUCUUUAUUUUUUAUUUAUUUAUUUAUUUUUUUGUAUACAAAUGAAAUGUUAGUUAGGGAUGAUAAUGAGAUGGUUGCCUCUAAAGUGUGGUGGUCGUCAACUUUUAAAAUGAACAACAUGCUUAAAGCAAACUAUGUGUUCAAAGUUAUGAUUCUAAUCAAUCAAUCAAUGAGACUUUUUGGUUUGUUUUACAAAUCAUACACAAUGAAUAUUCUUGGAAAAAAUCUAGAUGUAAAAUUGAAAAUCUAUUAGCAUACAUAUACAGAAAGAUAAGACCUUAAGCUUUAACAUGUGUCGUAAGACUUUAAAUGAAUAGGAAAAGAUCACUCAAGGUUCCUAUAUGCUAGCAUUGUUAGUAGCUUAAAGUACCCAAUGAUGUGUACAUGAACUAAUAUUUGUUAUGUAAUUAGGUUAGUAACUUCUAAUUAGAUCUAAACCUUGCUUACAAAAAAGCAAUGGACUGGAUGCUUUCGUACCUUAAAGUCACCAUAGGCUAUAUAAUUUUCUAUUGAGGAUUGAAUUUGGACUUGAUUAGCUAUAACAAUGAUAAUUGGGGUAGCAUCCUAAAUGAACCCAAAUCCACACAUGGUUAUAAUUUUACAUAUGCUCUAUGAUGGUAGCAUAUAUUGGUGAAAUAGAAAACAAUCAUGUAUAACAUUGUCUACCAUGCAUGUAGUUAGGAGUACAUGACUUGUCGUUUAGGAAAGUGACUAGUUUAUGAUGUUCAUACAUAUUUUUCACAAUAUUGCUUGUUCUUUUGAGCAUACUACUAUUUAUUGUGAUAGCAUGGAAACUUUAGCCUAUGUCAAAGACCCCCCCAAGUAUCCAUAGUUGAACCAAACACAUCAAUCUUAAACAUUAGUUUAUAUGAGACAUGGUUGCAUAGGAACAUAUUUCUAAUUGAUAAAUGGUUAAAAAUCCCACCCUCACCCCCUUGUUGACUAAGCUAAUAUGUAAAGAUGUUUAUUAGGGUCAUGUUGAGAGCAUUGUAUUAUUUAGAUUAUGAUUACAUGGGAGUUAAGUUAAGAGCAUUGGAUCAUGUAUAUUAUGAUUACAUAUUAUAUAUUUCAAUUAACCAUUAUAUCUAUGAUUUAUUCAUUGUCCAAUCUUGUUUGAUGGUGCCAUUUAAUUAUUUGUUUUACUUUAUUGACAUACACUUUCAUUACUUUGCACAAUUGAAACAUAAUGAGUCCAAACCACUUAGAUAGUGUGUUAGAUCAUUGAUAUUUAUAAGACUCCUAUUUGUAUCCAAUAAAACUUGCAUGUUAGUAGCGACCAAGUAUAGAUAGUCCUAUAGUACACAUUUGUAAUGGAGUCAAUUGCCAAAUCUUGUUAAUGUAGUGCUUGAUUUAGUAAGCAUGUGCAAAACUUGAGUUCUUUGUUCGAUGCAAGUAAACUAAGAUUUGUACAAUAUAGAAGAUCUAAGGUACACUCAUAAUGAAGAUCUCCAUGUCAGCAUGUAUUUUCAUACUAUAUCUUCUUGGCAAUCAAACAAGAAUGAAUGAAUAUAUUCAUAGCUACUCCCUCAUCAUGUGCAUUAAUCUUAUAGGUCAUUAUAUAGUAUAACUUUUAUGCCCUUGUGAUUUUCAGUCAUAAGUUACAAGUAUGGUGUAGUUUUAAAUAUUUUUCUAAGGGGAUUCACCAUGUUUAACUCAAUGUGAAUAAAAGUGUUUAAGAUAUAACGAGACACCUUUUAGGGAUGAAUUACACUGGUUAAGAUGAAAUUUAGUUUAAUACUCUUACACCUUUCUUAUCAAUGUGUUCGACAGUUGUACAAUCCAUUAGUCAAUAUGGACAUGGAUGAUAAUGAUAUAGUUGAGAGAAAUGCAUGACGUUAUUUUGCCUACUAUGCAUGAGUGGGAAACAAUGGAGUUUCUAUUUCAUGAGAUACUCUUAGUAGAACUUCAUUAACUAAGAGCUUGAGAGUAAGUUGCAUACUUAUCAGUUAAGAUUCCUCAUGCGAGGAAAGUUUAGUUAAGAUUCCUCUCGUGGGAGGAGGUUCACAUUUAGAUUUGGUCAGAAUAUAUAAGAGUUGUUUGUCCUUUGCAAUUCCAAUUCUAGUCUUUUUGCAUGUUUUCAAUUUAGUUUGUGGCAGUUGUUAAAUACUUCUACUUUAAUUUGUAGCAAUUAUAAUUUUUAAAGCUUACUAUUUAGGUUUAGAUUUACUACAUGCUUAUUAGAUAUCUUAAUUCCUAUUGUAUUCUCCUUGGUUAAUAAUCUUUCAAUUUGAUUGUGGAGUUCAAAGAUUUUUACCAAAAUAGGGAUCGGGGUUUUCAAAGUUAGGAAAAGUAUUUAAUAAAAUUAAUUUUUGAAAAAGUUUGCAAGCUAAAUCUUUCAAUUGAACCUAAUGAGUUUACAUACUAAAUCUCUCAUUUUCAGCCUUGGUUGUUUCCACUCUUUGCAAUUUAAUUAGUUUUUUUUAAUAUACAUAUAUAUAUAUAUAUAUAGAUAAUUCAUUUUGUGUACCUAUAUACUCAAGUUUUUGAGUAAUUAUGAGUUGUAUUGUUAUAUAGUAGAAUUUGAUAAACUAAAAAUGCUUACCUUUGAACAAUCGAGUACAAUAGCACAUUUGUGUGGAUAAAUCAUAGCUACCAACUUGAUUCUCCAUGCCUCCUCUAUUAGGCUGACUAAGAAAAUGGAUUAAUUUCACAAGAACACCUUAAGAAUAAAAAUGUCAAGAAAAAGAGAAAAAUCAUGCUUCAUCUAAUUUGACUGCAAGACUUAAAGGAAAAAACAUAAUAAUAUAAUAGUUAUUAUAAUGAAUAUAAUAAAAGGAAAAAUUGUCAUGUUCUUCCCAAUACUCAUAUAACCCCUUUCAAUGAAACUUUGUAAGCUCUACUAAUACAAAAUAAUGGUUCAUAUAGUAAAAGCUCAAUAAAUGAAUCUUUGAUAAAUUGAUAAUCUUACUUAUAAAACAAAAUCUUCUAGUCUUAACUCAUACCAAUGUACUAAAUUAGCAAUCUCGUUAAAUACAUAAGAAAAAUAUUUUCAAAAAUCAUUAAGGGCUCAAGAAAUAUAAACUAAUAAUUGAUGAAGUAGAAACAAAAAUUUAUAGUAUAGCAAAUAGAACUUCGUAAUAUAGUAUUAAGUAAUUUUUCAUAACUUUUGUUUUUCUAAAUUCACUUCUUUUAGAAUUAUCACAUAUUUGAAAUAGCUUUAUCUUUUUCAACAUUAAGUUUUGAUGCCACAUCUUUUUUUAGGAGUCUUUUUAUCUUUAAUUUACAAUCAAUAACUUUUUUUUUUCUUCAGUCUCUUAGGUUUCUAUGUAUUAACUUUUUACCAUGUUUAUUAUUUUUAAAUUUAUUAAGUCAUACAUGUACUAAUAAUGUACAGUAACAACAUAAUACUCUUCAUCAAUUAAUAAAUAUUCAUUUAUCUAUAAAUCAAUAACCUUGCUAAGAUCAUAAUUUUUCUUAGUACCAAGAGUACUAUUUUAUAAGAGUUUUUCUCUAUAUAGUUCCUUCAUUGUAGGAAUUUCUUUGGGUUAAUAUUACUAAAGUUGUAAUUUUAAAAAACAUAUAUAAUGGAAAUGAAGAGAAAUUUGAAAUCUAUGAAUUAGUGUUUUAUAUCAUUCUUUUUUCCUAUGAAUGCUAAAGCCAUUGUCAAAUAAAAAGAGUAAAUAAAAUAAUUAAUCAAGUAAUUAGUUGAAAGUGAAAUAGGUGACUUAAAACUAUUGCUUUGGUACAUGUUUGUUUGAGGUAAAUAUAGUAGAUAAUAAGAAAUAAAAUCCUCUAACUAUGUUUAUUUGAUAGAAUAAAAAAGUGAGUGUGUGGUUGCUCCAUAGGAGAAGACCACAUGUUAACCAAAGAAUAAGUAACUAGAAAGCUUACACAAGUGUUAAAUGAUCAAUUUCUCACCUAAGCACAUUAAUGAGAACUAAAUGUUGAAGGUCCAUGCCUCCAUGUGGGGAGACCUUAAUUGCUACCUUAAAGGGGCAGUUUAAAAGUGGUCACAUCCUCUAUGCCAAGUUAGUAUUCCAAAAACUAAGAAAGUUAACCUUUGAGUUGAUGCUUAUUUGUUUGGUAGUUUCCUCAUUCUUCUUACUAACUUGACCUUUGAAGGCUCUAUGACUGUAAGGAGCCUAGAGUGGUCACUUUAGGUUCCUUAUUAUUGUAAGGUCCUAACCAUCCAUUGAAGUAAGAAAGUGAACUAAUACUUGGAAAAAUGGUGUCAUCUAUGGUGAAGAUACAAAAAUUCAGCUCACCAAAAAAUCUUAGUAAAGCUACUAAAAAACACCCCACCCCGAGGCAAGGACCUUCAUUUUAGUACUCCUUGAGGUCUACCCAAAUCAAAGACCCGACGUUGAAGAAAUGAAGUCAACUAAACUUAGUUCCAUGCAUGAUAAGGUUGAAAAGCCUGCAUAAAAACCUACAGAAAGCUUGCCUCUUUAUAAGAAUAACUUGAACAUAAAAAGGAAGAAGACCUAUAAAAGGAAAUCAUAAACAACAAAGAAAAAGAAGUUUUUCCCUCCUUUGAAAAAGCUUUCUGUGAAUGCAAAAACCUAUUUUUUUUUUUUUUAUCAAGAAACCUUCCUUUGUAUCCAAAAAUUGGUGGAAUAAAAAUUUUUAAUUACAUAUGAAGAGUUUUAGCUUCUUCAUAUGGGAAUGCAUUAAAAGCCUUGAAGACAUUGUUUAGAUCUAUAGCAACGGUUAGGCAAUAGAAGACUAUGUAAUAGAGUCUUGGUAGGAAAAUGUAAUCAUGAUAGAAAUGAAGUGGAGCAAUGAGUGAGAGCAAACCAUUCAAUAAAUGAAGAAGCUCACUAAAAGAAGCAAUCGACUCAUUCAAGAAAAUGUUGCCUUCAAGGUAAGGGUAAACAAAUGCCAAUGUGAUUUUGACUAGGAACUCUCAUUGGUAAGCACCAAUAAGAUGCAAGUUAAUGAAUAAUAGUUAUCAAAGCAAUUAGACCAACAUAUAGAUUAAAUUGGGAGAGAAAGGUGAAGCAAACCUUAAUUAAACUAACCAAAUAGACCACCUUGCCAGAGGUCCCAAUGCUCUAAGGGCUUCUUACCACUAAAGCUACCACAAAAUGCAUAAUCUUAGUGGAUAAGGCGAUUGAGGCUAAGUCCCUUUAGGAGGAGGAGGAGGCCACAUGAGGGUUUUCCCUCCCUAAGUUUAAUUUCUUUCAAUGAAACUAAAGGCACUCUAGAUAACUCAUGCAUUUCUAUGCAUAUGAUGAUCUUAGAGAAGGGAAAUGAUCGACUUUUAUGCAAAAUCUUCUCCUUCAUCCUCCAAGGACUAACUUUGUAUUGUUUUAUCAACUUACCUUAGAGUUUGUUCCUGAUAUUGAGACCCUAAGGGCGAUGUCUGCCUCCUAGUACAUGCACUUAACAAGACAAAAGAAAAGCCUCAAAUAACCCAAGGUAGUUAUAGCUACCAUCCAUGGUGGCUCAUCUACUAGAUUUGAGUAACUAGACAGGGUAUCAAGAUGUUACAGAAGCAUAUGGCGAUUGAAGCAAAAGUCCUCACAUCCUUGCAUGAAGCAACUACCACUUGUCCAUAUGUCAUAUGCUUCUCUAAUAAAGACUUAAAAGGAGUCCAAACCCUGCCCAAGAUCCAUUGGUUAUUACUUUAAGAAUUAUUGAAUACAACAUGCACCUAUUCUUAGUUGACCUAACAAGUUUAGUUAACUUGCUAAAUAUAUUAGCCCAUAUAUGAACAAAUGAAUAUGGACGAAGGAAAACUAGUUUCAAGUCUUGGGUCAUUAGUGGGACUAGACAAAGUCCUAUGUGGCUCAACUAGGGAAGCAGCUCUAAUGGUUUCAAUUAGUUGUUGCCAUAUAAUGACACAAUUCUUUGUUAUGGAUAUCCUUUUCCCGAUAAUGCCAUUAUGGGAUGAACAUGGAUAUACAACCACAGAGGAACACUAUUCACAUACCAUCAUACAAUUAAAUUCCUAACACUACAAGGAAUAUGGGAAAUAUAUCGGGACUAGGUGGCAACAUGAGUAUGCUACACCAUACCCCUUAAAGCAGUCAACAAGUGCAUCAACCAGGACCUUUAGGAAGUUCAUAAAUCAAAACUCAAAUACAAAUUAGUAGGUGACCCAAGAAAGCAAUUAGAGAACCUAUGGAUUCAUUAUUUGAAAGCCCCUAAACCUAGGAGGUUCCUUCUAGUCCAUGUAAAAAAAAAAAAAAAGGUUUAAGAUGGCUACUAGAAAAAAACACAUCUUUGCUAGGAAACUACAGGACAUCAUGGGCAUUGAUCCCCAAGUCACAUGUCAUCGACUCAACAUAAACCCUAGUGUUUAGCUCCUUAAAAACAUUAGAUUGUGAAAGAAAUGGUAUUUAGGCUCUUAGAUGCUAGAUUUGGUCAUCUAGGUCUUUUAACAACAAAUAGAAGUCAGUAUGCUAGUUUACAUUAAUAACAUGUUAGUAACAAGUAAGAAGAGGAAUGAGUACCUGAUUGACCUCCUAAGAACAUUUCAAACUCUUAGAAAUUACUAAAUGAAGCUAAAUUAGUGAAGUGCACCUUCAAAUGUAGGGUAUGGAAAGUUCCUUAGGUACUUGGUUACAUACAAAGGAAAAGAAGCUAACCCAAACAAAAUAAAAUCAACUUUGGAGAUACCAAUGACCAAAAGGGUUGGAGAAGUCCAAAAGCUCACUAACAAGAUUGGUUCUUGAAAUGGAUUUAUAUAUUGGACAAAAAAUAUAUGUCCUCCUUUAUUUGACAUUAGCAAGAAGGGAAAAUGGACUAAAGGAACCAAAAAAUGCAACUAAGCCUAUGAAUCACUAAAGCAUUACAUGAUGCUAACCUUCACUUUGGAUAAACCUUAGGAUAAGGAGGUCUUACAAGGUCUCAUUAGUAGUAGUAAGUGGAGUGUUAUCUCAAAAAAAAAAAAAAAAAGGAAAAGAGGAGCAACCAAUGUACUAUGUCUAAAAGGCCCUCUUAGAUGUGGAAACCUGAGAUACAUAUAAAUAUUGAAAAACCGAUGCUUGCCCUUUAGAUUGCCACAUUGAAGCUUCAAUGUUACUUCCAAGUGCAUGUUAUUAAGGUAAUGACAAAGUGAUGAGAACUCAAACUUAAUACUUUAAUGGCUUUAAAGAGCCCACUUUAGUGUGUUUGAGGUACCAAAAAAUUAACCCAAGGUUUUGUUUUUUUUUAUAAUACCUUAGAAAAUUAUGUUUGAUGCAUUCUAUGACCAUUCUACAUUCUUUAAGGUGUUUUUUUGUUAGGAUAGAGUCCUUAAAAGUAUGAUAUGAUGUAAUAAAUUUGGAAUUCAAUAUUUAUUUAAUGAUGUUCUAGUUUCACUUUUAUCUAUCCUUAUUCCAUGUAUUGUACUUUAUGAGCAUUCUUAUCUACAUUUUUUGCAUUGCAUGUGACUUAAGUGCAUUAGGAGUUGCACAGAAGAUCUAAGUCAUGGGUUCCUUGCAAAUAGAUUACUUGUUCACAUUCAGUUCAUGGGCGUAGGCAAACCAUUAGAGGUUGCAAUGCGCCACCUCCUAAUUGGAGGGAUGGUUGGUCUUGACUAUUGGGAUGAGUUUUCCAUGAUGAGUGCACUAGUGUGUAUGGUUGCACAUUGAACAGGACCUAUGGUGAUUUAUGACUUAAACCUAUCGAGUAGUCAUGACUCCAUUGAGCUACUUCAUUGUAUUAUCUCUCAAACUUGAGAGAAUAUUGAGUUUGUGCUAAAGUUAAUAGUGGCUUUGGCUUAUAAGUGAGGUCGUAAGCUGAUCAUAUAUUCCCUAUGGAUCAGGUCACUAUUGAUGGAAGUCGAUAGCAAUGGGUAUUCUUAAUAAAGGCACCAUGAUAUCUAUUGGGAUUGAGAUAGUGUGUCCCUUGGGUGAUCUUAAGGAAGUGUGUUCAUGGAAACUUUGGCUAUAGUAGUUCCUUAAGUGGAAUUUGACAUAGACUCUUUGAGAGCUAAGAUAUGUUAAUUAAACACACAAUAGGAAGAUCUGUAACUCAAGGAUGGUAGAAGUAGUCUUGAAAGGCUGAUAGCUUUCACCUUGUUAGACUAUGAACACCAAUUCAUAGGGAGAUUAAACACAAUGGACAGUAGGUCAUGAACCCAAGCACUUAGUGUCUCCGUUGUUAUUUACAUAAGAUACCGGAGUUCAUUUGAUUCUUUGUAGUGGGAUGUUGAAUCAACUUUAAAAUUGGACUAUAAGGGAGCUAGUAUUCCUGUAGGUCCUAGUGGUCCUCGCUAUAAGCUCAUAUUCCUUGUUACAUGGGUAAUGAGGGUUGGAUUGACUUUAGGUUCACUUUUGUGCAUAAGGGCAUUUUGGUAAUUAUGCAAGGUUGUAUAGGAGUAAGUCAUCAAGGUCUCUGAACUGGGCUAAUUGAUUAAUUAGUAGGCCCUAUUGGGUUAGUUAAUCAAUUAGAACCCAUUUUAAACUAGAUUAAGUGACUUCAACCCAUGUGGGCUCAAGUCACUUAAGUCCACUUAGAAACCCUAUAAAUAACCCCUAGGGGUUAGGGUUUCCAUAACUUUUGUCUUCCAUCAUCCAGAGAGAUAGAGAGCCAUAGCCUCCACCAUUUUUUCCUCCUUAUCGAAAGUGUUCCAAGAUCAAGGUUCGAGUCAUUUGGCAAAAGACUUCGGGUUUACGAGACUUCUAUGAUUUCAAUUUUCAUCUUCACCAUGUGGAUUUGAUUCGGGAACACCUAAAUCUAAUGUAUGGUUUUCUUUAGCACUUUUUGAAUCCUUUUUAAGUAUAAAAAUGUUAUUUUUCCAUUGUGCAUAAGAUUUAGAAAAAGCCUAAGAUAGUUAUGCAUGUUCCUAACUUGAUCCGGACUUGGGAAAUGGAGAGAGAUUCGGGUUUUUCCCAUCAUUUUUGGUGCAAUAGAACCUUGUUAGGAAAUCAUAUAGACAAAAAUGCCUAAGUAAGGAGGAAACAUAGAUUGCACACCUAAAAGGUGUGCAAGACUUAAUCAUGCAAUUCUUUCUUAGUGUAAAGCCACAUAGUGCACCUCCCAUGUAUACCUUAAAGACCAAACACACAAGAUCUCUCUAAUGCAUUGGACCAAAUUUCACACCCUAUUCAAGCAACCCAAUCUGCAAACCUCUUAAGUGCUUUAAGCUAAGAUGUUGUGCACCCCCUUACUUGAGUCAACAAGAUGUGUAGUAGUGCAGCCCCUUGAUGUCAUCUAAAUUACAAACCAUUCUUACCUCUACAAUAGCUAAGUACUUAAUAAUUCUUCUAAUGAUUGGCUUACACACCAAAGUAGUAUGUUGUUUAUACCUCAAAGUCUUCAAUUGUACUACCUAAACGUACCUAAGCCAAAUUACAUAGAGAAAAAGAUGCAACUACCGACCAUAAGCUAACACAUCAAGAAUGAUGGCGGGUUGAUUGCAAUGACAAAGGACUUGACCCUUAAUAUAAGAAGAGACAAGUCUUGAGGAGGGGGGGACAAGUUUUGCCUAUAAAUGGAGGAUUGUGAAUAUACAAGUGGAAGCAAAUUAUAGAAAGUGAAAUUGUAGAUAAGUUUUUUCUGCUUGUGGGAACAAAAGUAGGAAUAAGAAUAACUUAAUGUAAUUUUAGUUUUUAAUUUUCCACUGUAAUCUUUUCUUUUCAUUAUAAAUGUUCCCUAAUUUCUAGUUUAAUGAGUUUUCUAGUCUUUUUAAUUAACAUCACAUUUCAGUUUUUCAAUUUCAACUUACAAAUUUGCAUUUUUAGUUCUUUACUUAAUUUUAACAUGCUUAGAUAACCUUUAACACUCUAAGGGGUGAGAGGAGCUCAAGUCUCCCAUAUCUUAGUUUAGCUCUCUAUUGGUUUAUCUGUGCAUUAGUUACAAGCAAUAUGAUCUCUAUUAGUAAUUAUAAUGACCAAAAGAAGUAACCAUGGGGAGAAAAGUCUAUGUUGCAUUGGUUGUGAGCGUUGUAAGUCAAGCAACCUUGGAAGCAUACUUAGGCAUUGUUUUAAUGAUUCUUUCAACUAAGUAUAGGCCUAUUGACAUGAAAAGAAUUUAUCUAAAUCAUUUGGUUAUAAGGAUAUUAAAAAAAAAAAAAACAAUUAGAGGGAGAUGAACGUUAUUAAGGUGGUUCUUGUUCAUUUGAAGCAGGAAACCUUUUUGGUAUAAAUCCUUGCUUUGACCCUAAAUCUGAAAGCAUAAGUUCAAAGCCUUGUUGGUGAGUUGUAUCUAAAAGUGGUGAUCCUAGUGAAUCUCUAGGUUUGAGGUUUUCUUUCCUUUAAUUUUCUAUCUUUUAAACUUUGUGUGUGUAUGUCUAUUUUAUUUAUAAAAUCAUUUUUCUAAUCUUUUAGCUAACAUUCACACCCCUAAAGCUAUUACCUUAGUUGCUACCAAUUAAAGUUCCUUGUGGAGGCAACCUAACAAUUAUAAAAUUAUUAAUUUUAUUUUUUUAUUUUUGGUUAAGGAGUUGAAAGUUUCAAUGAAUGAUCAAGUUUAAUUUCUCUUUGUAAAACUUAACUAUUAAAUAUAUUUCCUAGUUUUGAUAAAAGAAAUGAAUUAGAGAAUGACAAACCAAAAAUUAGUGUCGUCACUAGGGUACUUUCAACAUUGAUGACUCUAAAGGUAUUUUUGUGUAUAUGCUUGUUGUUUUAGAAGCUUAACAAGUAUAUUUCACCCACUCCCCACCUCUCUUUUAGUUGGAUUUUUUUCUUUUUUUACAUAAUUUUUUUUCUUUGGAUUUUCUUUUUCUACUCAGUUAGCAUUUUCAAUUGUUAAAUCCAACAUUUCCAGCAUUUUCUUUAAAGUGAUAUGAUGUAUUAGGGAAAUGAUUUUAAAGGAAGGGAACUAAGAGUGCAUUUGGGAGCGAUUCUACAAAGCAUUUCUAACAUUUCUAACACUUGAGUGAUAAAAAUUUUCAAGUAUUAUGAAUAUUAAAAGUGUUUCCUAGAAUCACUUCCAAAUAGGUUCUAAGUAAUCAACUAGAAGAAACAAUUUUAGAGGAAGGACACUAAGUAAUUAACCAAAAAAAAGUGAUUUUAGAGGAAGGACACUAAGUAAUCAACCAACCCCUAGUUAUCCUUUUCCUCAACACACCAAACCACCACCGUCUCAUAUCUAUUUUCCAAAUUCAACUAUUGGUGGUACUAAUAGAAGUGUGAUGAAUGGGGGUUUUAACCCCAAUAACUAGCCACCUAAGACCAUGAGGGAUUACCUAGUCGGGCCAAUGCUCCUUUUUGCUUGAUAUUUUUUUUUACGCUUUUCAAAUAAACAUUGAGCUUGAAAUGAUCCAAUUUCUAUCUCUAUUUUAUGGAAGGGAGGACGAAAAUCCUUUUUCUUAUUUAAAAGAAUUUGAAUAGGUAUGGUUUAUUUUGGUAGAACUGGAUUUGAUAUCUCUAUUUUAUGAGCCUUCAUGAAACCUGGAUCAUUCGAAACUCAAGGUUUUCUUUUUUCAUUAAAGAAAGAGGAUAAGCAUUGGUGGUAUAGCAUGAGACUCUAUAGGAUAAGUUCUUAGGAUACUUGAUAAAAUAUUUUUUUCACAAAUUUAUUUUGGUAUAUAAAAUUGUUUCCUUUGAAAGACAAAUUAAAAUUUUUUGUUUUAUAGAGAAUGAGACUUUUCAUCAUUGUUAUGAUUAAUUUAAAGCUUUUUUGUUUAACUUCCUUACCAUAGUUUUGAAAACUCAAGGAUUGCUUCUUCUUUUUAAAGGGGACCAUCCCCCUAAAUGAAAUAAUUUGUUGAAAACAUGACUGGUGGGUACUUUAUACAGGAGAAACCAAAAGAAGCACUUAAGCAUUUAAAAUUGCUUGCUGAAAAAUCAAGGGUUUGGGACCCCUUAGUCCUCAAGUGCAUCUUCUAGAACGUGAAAGCCAACCCCAACAACAUCUAAUCUCUCAUCUCAUCUCUCAAUUUAUCAUUUCCCCUUAGAACAAGAGUUUUGACGAAGAUGAUUUUUGGAUGCUGUAAGAGGACGAAGCCACUGAAGUUAAGGAAAAGGAAACUGUGUACAUAGCAGUUGAAAAGAAUUUGAAGAGAACUUCCAACAGGUUGCAAAUAAGGUUAUAAGCUGCAUUUUUUCUUCUUUUCCAAAAAAAAAAAAAACCAAAGAUAGAAAAAGAAAUCCGUAAAGAGCAAGAAACAGAGGAGGAGUGGAGCAAUGUAUUGCAUGAUCACACCUACUUUAUUUGUUUCUCAAUUCCCUUCUCUUUGCAACCCAAAAAUGUUGAUCUUCAAGGUAUCAUCAGAGGGCUUCUCAAUAUCUCUUCUAAUGAAAGUGGCUCUUAACUAGAGGGGAGGGCAUCCCAAAAAUUUUAGGAAACCAUGAAGAAAAAUUUAUCAAAGUGGAUGCUUCCAAUCUACCUGUGGGAAGCAAAGAAAAAGUGAACCAUUGGCUAGCUAGAAGCUAGCCAAAAACUUGUAAAUAGCUUUCAUUUUUUUUUUUCUUUAUUAUUUUUGUUUUUAUUGCUUUGGCCAAUUUAGUGUGUAGGAGCACCAUCAUUGUGAAGCCUAUAAUAUUAUGUUCUCAGUCCACUCAAUACAUUUGGGUAACCUUUAUCAUCUCAUAAGAACUCAAGUAUAAAUUUCUCUAUACUCUAUUGGUUUUAUCAUACUUCAGAGUAGGUGUAAAUUGUUAGCACCAGGAAAGUGUAGGACAUAUAGGAAUUGCGCACUUUUGAGGUUUGCUAACCCAACUUGUAUGAUGACUUAAAUUACGUAUCUGUAGAGCAUAACUCAAAUUGUACACUUUGAAAGCAUGACUGAAAUUCCACACCCUAAGAGAUUAAUUUAAACGGUGCAUCCAAAGGAGCGCAACCAAAAAUUGCACACCUUUAAGUGCGCAAUCAUUUCCCAAGGGAUGCCUACUUAUUCUCUUUUGUAUUAUUGUCCAAGCACGCCAUCCAUAAUAAAAAUCUUUAUUCUCUUAUGUAAACUUUUUGGAAGAAAAAUGCCUUCCCAAAUAAAACCAUAAUUGCUUAGAGACUUUUGUCCACCCCACCAUCAUAUCAAUUGAGGUAACCGAGAAGUCUUCUAAGUUUUAUAUAAAAGAAGUAAUUUUCACUAAAGUAGUCACUGCAAUAAAUACUAAAAUAAUCCAACGAAGCAUUCAGUGGAAUGAGCAUAUUAUAAAAUUGUACAUGGGAACCCGACAGUAAUUCAUAUCAAGAAAGUAGAUAGGGGAUAGUAAAUAUAGCUCACCAUGAAACCCCACCAUUAGAGCUCUGUACAGAAGUUCGAAUCCAGGCUUGUCUGCGAAAGGACUUGGAUCUACAUCAUCUCUGGUGACGCUUAAUAAAUAUGAAGUCAGCUCUUUAUGACCAUACCUAACAGCGCUGUGAAGAGGCGCAAAAUUGUGGCGUUGGCAGAUAUUGGGCAAGCUUGGGUUUCUGUUCACUAACAACUUGACUGCUUUUAUAUUGCCAGCCCUUGCAGCGUUGAAAAGGGUAGUGGCGCCAUCAGAAUCCCGCAGAGCCAGUGCCUCACUUGGCAUAAACUCAACGAACUUCUCCACGAAAUCCAUUCUGGCCUCUCCUAACUCAACUGCUAUGUGAAGCAUUGGGGAAUCAUCUGUUCCAAUCGGGGCGGAGAAUGAUUUGGGAUCAUCCGCCAAUAAUUUUGAAGCACUUUCCCAGUCACCAUUGAGCACAGCUUUGUACAGUUCCAAGUAAUAGAAUUCUGCAGUCACAAAACCAAAAGAUGUAUACCUCGCAGAGAAGAUACUCUCAUCCAAAGAGAAACAACAGCAGCCCCUUUUUCCCAGAGUCUUCAAAAGAUACAGGAAAUGGGCCAGGAACCAUUGAAGCAUAAGAGGUGCAAUGAUAGAGUCUUCCAAGUCAACUUUAUUUAGUUGAGUAUUGGGUCAGGAGUAGAUAUAGCGUUGAAACGUUAUGACUGGUGGAUGAUAGUCAUUCAAAAUAAACAAAGAAAAUUAGGGGGUAACUUUGAGCCGUUUGUUUUCGCAUGAUUUCUUCUGACUCUGUUGCUGGGCAUAGACCUCGACUGCCAUACAAGCACAGUCACCAGCGGCUGCCGUGGGAAUUAAUCCUAUGCACCACACAUUGCUAUGAUAGUUUACAAUAACUAAUUAUAUAAAAUCUGUUAAAAUAUUUUAUAUAAUUAACUUUUUGGAAUUUUUUUUUUAUCAAGUAGUAAAAUAAAGAAAAUUUAGGAAAAAAAUAUUUUUGAAAAAUGAUAAGUUUAAAAAAACGAUAAAGUUUUUGUAAAAUAUAGAAAAGGAUACAAGGCUAUUAAAUCAUAAUUAUAUGAUAACCUUUUAGUAUUUCAAUCUUUGAAUUUUUUUUGGAGAUUAUUUCCAUAAAUUCCACAUUCCAAAAACAAUGAUAAUCUUUACACAAUAUUAUUGUCAUAAAAAAUAAAAUUUUUUAAAAAAAUUAGAGAUUACAAAGAAUAUAAGGAUACGAAGAAUGUGAGAAUUGUCAUAUUUUUCGUACCCUCCUCACAUUCUUCAUGGCCCAACCCAUUUGAAUUUUUUUAUUUUUUUAUUUUUUUCAAACAUUAUUUACUUCACUUGCAAGUGUAAUUAGUGUUUUUACACAAUAUUAUUGUCAAAUGAAGUAAACAAAAAAAUCCUUAUUCUCUUAUGUAAACUUUUUGGAAGAAAAAUGCCUUCCCAAAUAAAACCAUAAUUGCUUAGAGACUUUUGUCCACCCCACCAUCAUAUCAAUUGAGGUAACCGAGAAGUCUUCUAAGUUUUAUAUAAAAGAAGUAAUUUUCACUUCCUUUUGCAUGCACUCAAACAAGAACACACACAAUAACGCAACAUGAAAACUCCAAAGAAUCUUAAAACCAAAACACUGAGCCUAAAUAAGAUAAGGAAGUGAGAUAAAAAUGAACAAUCAAGCCAAUUUGUUGAAGUCAAUAGGCACAAUACUAAAAUAAUCCAACAAGCAUUCAGUGGAAUGAGCAUUUGGACAGAAAGGGAACACAUUAAAUUUAAAAGCACUUGAAGCUAGCAAUGGGUGAUAUUGAUAUUUUUGGUCAAUCUCACCCUCAGUGCAGAAUUCCAAAUUGUUUCCAACUUUUCUGUAAUAUUUUUCUUACAUUUUUAUAUUAUCCAAAGACAGAAAAUUAAUUAUUCCUUUCAAGUUUUUUUUUUCUUUUUUAUUUAUAGGACAUAGCUAAACAGGAUUAGCAUAAAAGAAAAUAACUUGACUUAUAAACAAAAGCAAAGGAGAUGCAAUGGCAAACACAAAGCAAUUUAAAAGGGGCAAGCAGUAAAGAAACUAACAAUGAUAUAUUAUGAGUUGCCAUAAGUUGAAGCGACUUCCACUUGGGAAAGCCCAAGGCCUUUUAGCCAAUACUGUCAAAGGGGCAAAAUCCUCAUCAGAAUCAUUAGCAUCAUCGUGGCGGGCGGAAUCGAAAUGGCAUGUGGCAAGGUCAGGAUAACGUUCAACCAGAUACAGUGCUACAUCUGCAUAUUAUAAAAUUGUACAUGGGAACCCGACAGUAAUUCAUAUCAAGAAAAUAGAUAGGGGAUGGUAAAUAUAGCUCACCAUGAAACCCCACCAUUAGUGCUCUGCGCAGAAGUUCGAAUCCAGGCGAAUUUGAGAAAGGAUAUGGAGGUUCAUUAUCUCUGGUGACGCUUAAUAAAUAUAAAGUCAGCUCUUUAUGACCAUACCUAACAGCGCUGUGAAGAGGCGCAAAAUUGUCGCGUUGGCAGAUAUUGGGCAAGCUUGGGUUUUUGUUCACUAACAACUUGACUGCUUUUAUAUUGCCAGCCCUUGCAGCGUUGAAAAGGGCAGUGACGCCAUCAGAAUCCCGCAGAGCCAGUGCCUCACUUGGCAUAAACUCAACCAACUUCUCCACGAAACCCAUUCUGGCCUCUCCUAACUCAACUGCUAUGUGAAGCAUUCGGGAAUCAUCUGUUCCGAUCAGGGCGGAGAAUGAUCGUGGAUCAUCCUUCAAUAAUUUUGAAGCACUUUCCCAGUCACCAUUGUGUUGGGGAUAAAUGUAUGCCCAAGAUCCAAUCUAUCAUGUAAUCAACUUUAGUUUUAAUAAGGUAUUAAUUCUUUAUUUCAUUAUCAUAUCUGUUUAAAAUAGUUUAUAUGAUAAGGUCCUUGAUUAAAAUUUGAAAAUUGUUAUCAUGAUAGAGAUUAUGAUAAUGAGAAGCAAUUCUUUUAAUAAUUUUAAUCUAAACUGUUCUUGAUCAUAGGAUUAUUGUCAACAGGACAUCAAUAAUCCAGAUAGAUCAAUAUAUAUGUGAUGGUCUUUAUUGGAUAAAGAUUGAUAUAUCUCAUUUGUUAAAUUACAUAUAUAGAUGAUGCACAUGUAGAUGUGAUCAUUGAACUGACUCAACUGAGAAUUUCUAAUGGUCAUCUUUACCUUAAAUUGUCAAUAGGAAUUUCUCAAGAAGAAAUAUAAUAGUUUUCUUUGACCUGAGAUUAUCAAAGUAAUUAACAAGUUAUUUAUUAUAUUUUAAUCCCGGACACCUAAUGCCUUAGGGCACUAGUUGAAUGGAUAUUGGAUAUAAUUAAAUACUUGUAGAAUUAAUGAUUAAUCAAGAAGGAAUCCAUCAACUCGUGGUAAUGAGUUUGAGCUCUAUGAUAAAAAUAAGACCUUGGCCAAGGGCAAUUGAAUGAAUGAAGAAAUGAGUUUCUUAAGUUAUUCACUAAAUAAAUAAUGUGCUGACUUAUUAGAGUUUGACAGUAAUACCAUACUCUAGAGUUAGCCCAGAGCUGUGAAUGAUGGAAGGAAAUAUUACAUUAUUCUUCUACCGGUUCUUGAAAGUAAAAGAUAUUACUUCAUACUAUCUGGACGUUAAGGAGUGUUGCUAGAUGCCUACCUUAAUUAGUAAAUUGAUUUGAUUAAUUUACUACCAGCUUAGUAAUGAACCUACGGGGUUACACACAAACGAGUGUUUUAAUCUUUGCAAAGAACUAUUUAUUAUUAUUUGAUAAUUAAAUUAGAGAAUUUAAUUUUAAUCAAAUAAAUAAAUAUGUUCUAUGUGGAAUAUUAUUAUAUUCUUUGCUAGCACCAAGAAUAUAAUUAAUAUAUAGAUAAAAAAAUAAAAUAUUUUUCUUUGGACGUGGAAGUUAGUCCACGAGAAUGUUUGCUAAACAUUUGCAAACAUAUGGGUACAUGCAGCAACUUACAGGAGGGAUGUGGGUUUUGUUUUUAACUUACAAGACUUGGUCAAAGUGUUUUUCAAAUGCUAUUGAAAAUAGCAAAAGAAAAACAAAUGGACCAAUAGAAUCUCUUAGUAGCCCAAAAAAGAAGGAGGACACGAUAGAGAUAGAUUAAGUGAUAAAAUCAAAAAUCAAAUUAGUUGAGUUAUCUUAUCACUUAAAACAGAAGUUGUAUCGGAUAUGCUAUAUAGCAUAUAUACACAAUCUGAAUAAGGAUCGAUCUAUCUUUAUCCUCCUUGUUUUUACGCCAAAGAAAUACAAAGUGUUGUUCUAUUUUUUUUAAGUUCCGCGUAUCAAAGGGUUGAUAGCAAAGAUUAAUUUCGGUGUGGAUACACGUAGAGUCUUCAUACAAUUGGAGAAAAUUUUAUGCUUGAAGAACUGAUAUCCAGGUUAUUAUUUUAAAUUUUUUGAUAGCUGCAGUAUAUAUUUUGAAUGCAAAAUAGAUCAAUUUUCCGCUGUAUGUGUUAUAAAUUUAUUUUAUAACCUUUCAAUUGGUAUCAGAGCCAGGUUUAUUUUUGUGUUUAAAAUUAUACUACCAAUAUAAUUUUCGUGACGUGAAAGCUUUAUCCUCUGUUAUUGCUGUUCAUUAGACUGCAACAGUUGCAGAAGUAAAGAUUGAUGCGACAAUUGCUUAUUGCUUUUCUGUUGAUAUACGUGCCUAAUAGAUAUUUCAAAUUUAUAUUCACAUGCUGAAGUAUUACUUUUUGAAUUAUAUAUAUAUGUGAUCUUUUACUUUGAAUCCCGCAUGCAUAUAUAUUUUUAUAUGCUAAAGUCUUGUCAUGCUUUAUCAUUGUGAUAAGUAAAAGUUGAUUCAAAUAAAUGAUCCUCUGUCUUGCCAUUUAUCUAAUAUAAAAUAUAGUAAUAUAUAGUUGAUAUAUUUUGACUUACGUUUUAUUAAAACUAUUUGGCUUUAAUAUGAAUAUAUAAAUAUACAUGUACCUGGAGAGGUAUAAUUCAUUAUUGAUUUUGUUGAAUUAUUAUAUAUAGUGAUAUAUAUUAAUUCUUUGAUAGAUGAAUUCUAUUCAUGUAUAAUAAUGUGUUUAUGUAUAUUUGCAAGUUGUGUAAAUUUUUUAGCAUGUGAUGAAAUUUUUUUUAUUAAUAACAAGGAACGACCUGAUAACCAGGAGACUUGUAAUUAAUUACAGCAUGUAUGUUUAAAAUAAUUUUAUACUUAAUGUCUGGACUACCCAGAGAAGUAUUAAAUUAAAUUCAUAGAUAUUAAUAAGUUUGACCUGACAACCAGGAACUUAUGUAAUAUAUUAUUCUUUUGAAAUUGUAUGAGAUACAUUUUGUCUUAGAAUAUGUAUGAGAAACGACUUGAUAACCAAGUGGCUUAUUCAUAGUUUUAAGAAAUUAUAUAUGUUUUGACAUAAUUAUAUUUUAAUAUCCAGAAUGUCUUCCUUAUCACUCCGUUCCAUACUUGAAACUUCAAAAUUGGUUGGAGCCAAUUAUGAUGACUGGUACCGCAAUCUGAGAAUUGUUCUCAUGCAUGAAAAACUUAUCAAUAUAAGUGAUAAGCCUGCUAUAACUGCACCAGCUGACACAAAUCAUGCUGAAGCAACCAAGACCUAUCAAAAUACUUGGAAGAAUGUCUUUCUGCAAAAUGCAUAAUGCUAGCAUCCAUGAGUCCUGAACUUCAGAGGCAACAUGAGGAUAUGGAACCACCUGCAAUCAUCGAGCAUCUUAAGAAGAUGUACGGUGGACAAAGUAGGACAGCUAGAUACCAGUUAUCUAAGGCUUUGUUCAGGUCCUCAUUAGGUGUAAAUGCUCAAGUUGGACCCCAUGUUCUGAAGAUGAUUGAUCUUAUUGAACAACUUGAGAAGUUGGGGUGCACGCUUGGAAAGGAACUUUCUCAAGAUUUGAUUUUACAAUCACUUCCUGAUUCUUUGUCACAAUUCAUUGUGAAUUUCAACAUGAACAAAAUGAGUUGUGAUCUGCAUGAGAUGCUUAACUUGUUAAUUGAUUAUGAGAAUCAAGUUUCCUCUGAAAAGAAUAAAGGAAUUGUCAUGGUGGUUGGCAAGACUUCUAAGAAAAAGGGCAAAGGUAAAUAUAUACCAAAAAGGAAACCUCUUGGAACUAAGGGUGGUGUGACCAAACCCAAAUACAAGAAGGUUAAAACUGACCACAGUGAUGCUGAAUGCUUCUUCUGUAAAGAGAAAGGACAUUGGAAGAGAAACUGCAAGAAAUAUCUUGAUUCUUUGAAAAACAAGAAACAAGGUAAGACAUUAAUGAAAAAUGUUUUCAUGAUUUCUUUAACUGUCACAGAUUCUUCAACAUGGGUAUUAGAUACCGGUAGUAGUUUUAACAUCUACAAUAUGUUGUAGGGGCUGAAGAUAACUAGAUGGUUGAAGAAAGGAGAAAUCAACCUUCAAGUAGGGAAUGGAGCAAAUGUUGCCGCCUUAGCUUUAGGAUCAAUUUCUUUAAAUAUGCCCACUGGCAAAGUACUAGUGUUAAAUGAUUGUUAUUAUGUUCCGAACUUUGUUUCAAAUAUAAUUUCAAUUUCUAUGUUGGACAAGCGAGGUUUUCGCAUUAUUUUCAAUAAUAACAUUUGCUCAAUUUAUCAUGAUGAUGAUUUAUAUGUAAAUGGUUAUCUCCAACAUGGCAUUUAUGUCUUACCUGAUGUGAAUUAUAAUUCAGUUAUGCAUGUUUCUUCUAGUUUUAAAAGAAAAAGAGAUAGUCAAUUAAAUAAAACAUAUCUUUGGCACUGUAGGCUUGGUCAUGUUGGUGAGAAAAGAAUUAACAAGUUAUACAAGGAAGGUUACCUUGAUAAUUAUGAUUAUGAAUCAUAUAAAACUUGUGAAUCUUGUCUCAAAGGAAAAAUGACUAAAUCUCCAUUUAUUGGAACUGGAGAAAGAGCCUCUGAAUUAUUGGGACUAGUUCAUACAGAUGUUUGUGGACCCAUGAAAAUUCAAGCCAAAUGAGGAUAUUCUUAUUUUAUAACCUUCACUGAUGACAUGUCAAGAUAUGGUUUUUUGUAUCUCAUGAAACAUAAAUCUGAGUCAUUUGAAAUGUUCAAAAGGUUUCGCAGUGAAGUUGAAAAACAAACAGGUAACAGUAUCAAAGUGCUGAGAUCUGAUAGAGGAGGAGAAUAUCUCAGUGAAAAUUUUAUUGACUAUCUAAGAGAGAAUGGGAUUCUCUCACAGUGGACACCCCCAGGAACACCACAGCACAAUGGUGUAUCAGAAAGGAGAAAUCGAACCUUAUUAGAUAUGGUAAGAUCUAUGAUGAGGUUCACUGAUCUUCCAUUAAAUUUAUGGGGAUAUGCUUUAGAAGCAGCAGCUUAUUUACUAAACAAAAUCCAUACAAAAACAAUAUCUACAACUCCGUAUGAGAUAUGGAAAGGGCGUAAACCAAAUCUCAAACACAUUAAGGUUUGGGGUUGUCCAGCUUACGUUAAGAAAUUACAAACAGAUAAACUUGAGGCAAGGUCAGAUAAGUGUAGGUUCAUUGGGUAUCCCAAAGAAACAAUGGGAUAUUAUUUCUACCACCCUUUAGACCAUAAAGUGUUUGUGGCAAGAGGAGGAACCUUUCUAGAAAGGGAAUUUCUUGCAGAAGGGAGUCAUGGCAAAGAAAUAGAGCUUGAUGAAACUCAAGAAGAAACCAAUGAAACAACAGCAGCUCAAGAACAUGAGAUGGAAUUUGAGCAACCUUUCUUUGAUGUCUUAAAAUCAACACAAAGGUUACAAUCUCCAACAAUUGUGGCUCCAGAACCAGCUAUAGUUCAAGAACAAGUUAAUGAACCUGAACCAGCUGUAGUUCAAGAACAGGUUAAUGAACCAAUCUUAGAACAGAUUCAGCAACCUCUGAAUCCAAUACAUGAGCCUCUAAGAAGGUCUAGUCGAGCACAUCGUGCGCCGGAUAGACUAAACUUGAUGGUUCAAGAUGACUUGUCUAAUGAGGUUCAUCAUAAUGAUGAUGACCCUAAGAACUAUGAAGAGGCUAUGCAAAGCUUGGACCGCAAUAAAUGGCAAGAAGCCAUGGAAUCCGAAAUAGAAUCAAUGAAGAUCAACAAAGUAUGGACUUUGGUUGAAGCUUCAAAGGAUAUAAAACCAAUUGGUUGUAAAUGGGUUUACAAGAAAAAGAUUGGAGCAGAUGGAAAAGUUGAGACUUACAAAGCUCGCCUUGUUGCUAAAGGAUAUCGUCAAAAAGAAGGAAUUGAUUAUGAUGAAACUUUUUCCCCAGUGGCAAUGCUCAAAUCAAUUCGGAUUCUACUUGCCAUAGCAGCAUACUAUGAUUAUGAAAUAUGGCAAAUGGAUGUGAAAACAGCUUUUCUUAAUGGUGAGUUGAAAGAGGAUGUAUACAUGACACAACCUGAAGGAUACACAUCAAUGUCUGAUCAUAAUAAAGUUUGCAAGUUGCGACGAUCCAUUUAUGGAUUAAAACAAGCUUCAAGAAGUUGGAACAUACAUUUUAACAAGACAAUCGAAAAGUUCGAUUUUGUUAAAUGUGAAGAAGAACCUUGUGUGUACAAAAGGUUUAGUGGGAGCACAAUCAUUUUCUUAGUGUUAUAUGUAGAUGACAUAUUGCUUAUAGGAAAUGAUAUACCAGCAAUGCAAGGGACAAAGGUUUGGCUAUCAGAACAGUUCUCCAUGAAAGAUUUGGGAGAAGCAGCCUAUAUUCUAGGAAUAAAGAUUUAUAGAGAUAGAUCUAAAAGGUUGCUUGGACUAUCCCAAUCCAUGUACAUUGAUACCAUCUUAAAGAGGUAUAAUAUGGAAAACUCCAAAAGGGGCUAUUUACCAAUAGGAACUGGAGUUACUCUUAGUAGGGAGGAUUGUCCUAAAACUCCUAAAGAGAGAGAACGCAUGAAUAGGGUACCAUAUGCUAGCGCAGUGGGAGCUAUUAUGUAUACCAUGACUUGUACACGUCCUGAUGUCGCUUAUGCACUAAGUGUAGCUAGUCGAUAUCAGGCAAACCCUGGUGAGGAACAUUGGAAAGUGGUCAAGACCAUUCUUAAAUACUUAAGAAGAACUAAAGACCAAUUCCUUAUCUAUGGAGAAUCUGAAUUAAAAUUAAAGGGUUAUACUGAUGCAAGUUUUGCAUCAGAUAAAGAUGAUAGCAAAUCUAUUUCAGGUUAUGUUUUCACCUUAAAUGGUGGUGCAGUGAGUUGGAAAAGCUCCAAACAAGCUACAGUAGCAGAUUCAACUACUGAAGCCGAAUAUAUAGCAGCAAGUGAGGCAGCUAAGGAAGCAGUUUGGAUGAAGAAGUUCAUAUCUGAACUUGGUGUGGUUCCUUCAAUUGAAGAACCAAUUCCACUGUUAUGUGACAAUAAUGGAGCAAUUGCUCAAGCAAAGGAACCAAGAUCACACCAAAAGUCUAAACAUGUCUUGCGAAUGUAUCACUUGAUUAGAGAAAUCAUUGAACGUGGUGACGUUAAGAUUGAAAAGAUAGAUGGAAAAGAGAAUGCGGCAGACCCAUUUACCAAAGCACUUGGCAUAACGCAGUUUGACAAGCACAAAUGGGAAGUGGGAAUGAAAUACAUGACUGAUUGGCUCUAGUGCAAGUGGAAGAUUGUUGGGGAUAAAUGUAUGCCCAAGAUCCAAUCUAUCAUGUAAUCAACUUUAGUUUUAAUAAGGUAUUAAUUCUUUAUUUCAUUAUCAUAUCUGUUUAAAAUAGUUUAUAUGAUAAGGUCCUUGAUUAAAAUUUGAAAAUUGUUAUCAUGAUAGAGAUUAUGAUAAUGAGAAGCAAUUCUUUUAAUAAUUUUAAUCUAAACUGUUCUUGAUCAUAGGAUUAUUGUCAACAGGACAUCAAUAAUCCAGAUAGAUCAAUAUAUAUGUGAUGGUCUUUAUUGGAUAAAGAUUGAUAUAUCUCAUUUGUUAAAUUACAUAUAUAGAUGAUGCACAUGUAGAUGUGAUCAUUGAACUGACUCAACUGAGAAUUUCUAAUGGUCAUCUUUACCUUAAAUUGUCAAUAGGAAUUUCUCAAGAAGAAAUAUAAUAGUUUUCUUUGACCUGAGAUUAUCAAAGUAAUUAACAAGUUAUUUAUUAUAUUUUAAUCCCGGACACCUAAUGCCUUAGGGCACUAGUUGAAUGGAUAUUGGAUAUAAUUAAAUACUUGUAGAAUUAAUGAUUAAUCAAGAAGGAAUCCAUCAACUCGUGGUAAUGAGUUUGAGCUCUAUGAUAAAAAUAAGACCUUGGCCAAGGGCAAUUGAAUGAAUGAAGAAAUGAGUUUCUUAAGUUAUUCACUAAAUAAAUAAUGUGCUGACUUAUUAGAGUUUGACAGUAAUACCAUACUCUAGAGUUAGCCCAGAACUGUAAAUGAUGGAAGGAAAUAUUACAUUAUUCUUCUACCGGUUCUUGAAAGUAAAAGAUAUUACUUCAUACUAUCUGGACGUUAAGGAGUGUUGCUAGACGCCUACCUUAAUUAGUAAAUUGAUUUGAUUAAUUUACUACCAGCUUAGUACUAAACCUACGAGGUCACACACAAACGAGUGUUUUAAUCUUUGCAAAGAACUAUUUAUUAUUAUUUGAUAAUUAAAUUAGAGAAUUUAAUUUUAAUCAAAUAAAUAAAUAUGUUCUAUGUGGAAUAUUAUUAUAUUCUUUGCUAGCACCAAGAAUAUAAUUAAUAUAUAGAUAAAAAAAUAAAAUAUUUUUCUUUGGACGUGGAAGUUAGUCCACGAGAAUGUUUGCUAAACAUUUGCAAACAUAUGGGUACAUGCAGCAACUUACAGGGGGGAUGUGGGUUUUGUUUUUAACUUACAAGACUUGGUCAAAGUGUUUUUCAAAUGCUAUUGAAAAUAGCAAAAGAAAAACAAAUGGACCAAUAGAAUCUCUUAGUAGCCCAAAAAAGAAGGAGGACACGAUAGAGAUAGAUUAAGUGAUAAAAUCAAAAAUCAAAUUAGUUGAGUUAUCUUAUCACUUAAAACAGAAGUUGUAUCGGAUAUGCUAUAUAGCAUAUAUACACAAUCUGAAUAAGGAUCGAUCUAUCUUUAUCCUCCUUGUUUUUACGCCAAAGAAAUACAAAGUGUUGUUCUAUUUUUUUUAAGUUCCACGUAUCAAAGGGUUGAUAGCAAAGAUUAAUUUCGGUGUGGAUACACGUAGAGUCUUCAUACAAUUGGAGAAAAUUUUAUGCUUGAAGAACUGAUAUCCAGGUUAUUAUUUUAAAUUUUUUGAUAGCUGCAGUAUAUAUUUUGAAUGCAAAAUAGAUCAAUUUUCCACUGUAUGUGUUAUAAAUUUAUUUUAUAACCUUUCACAUUGAGCACAGCUUUGUACAGUUCCAAGUAAUAGAAUUCUGCAGUCACAAAACCAAAAGAUGUAUACGUCAGCCUAGAUUUCCCUAAUAUGUAUAUUUCUUCAACGUUCACAAUGUCCUAAUACUAAAAUUAUUUUUAAAAAAUAAAUCAUUUAAGUUAUGUUUGGUUCUUAGAAAAUUUGACAAAAAAAUAGAGGGGAAAGAAAAGAAAGUAAAUUGAAAAAAUAGAAGGCAAGAAAAAGUGAAAUAAAAUACAUCUAAAAUCAAUAAAUUAAUUAUUUUUAAUUAAUUUAUUUUAAUUAUAUUUUAUUUUCUUAAAUAUUUUUUUUCGAUAUAACCAAAUACGGGAAAAUCAUUUUCCUUGAUAUCUUUUCUUUGCUAAUUAUUUUCUUGGACUUCUUUGUUUACAUCUAAUCAACAUCUUUAUAUAUUUCAAUAAUAGUUUGAACCUCCAAUAAACUACACGAAUUAAAAUUUAAUUUUCUUCCAUUUUUUAUUUUAACAGCAGGUUGUAAAAUACUUCUACUUGUAUACUAAUUAUGCCCAAAAGUUUCAGGAGGACCUCAAACGGAAAUGGGCAUGAACAUGGUUUUCAGCAUCUCACCGGAGCUGCUAGUCCUUCGCAAAGAUGAAGAUGAAACCACUGAAACAUAUUCAUUGGUAUGGUGUGCCGUGUCGAUGGUAGUAGUUCUUUUCAAUGAUGAAGUGGAAGAGACUGGGCCAUAUUCAUCAGUAUCCUGCGCCAUAUUGAUGCUGCUACAGUUAGGAUUGUUUGGGCUGUCAUCGAUUACCGAGAGUGGUAAUGAAGAGGAAGCCAUUACAGUGAACUCCUCAUCAUGCUCAGCAAUGUCCAUGUUACUGUUUGUAGGGCUGUUUGCGCUGUUGUCAUUUAUAAGACGUAGUGAAGAAGAAGAAGCCAUUACAACAAAUUCUUUAUCGUGCUGAUAGUCAUUGCCAUGUUUAGCGAAGUUAUUCUAAUGUGCAACAGAAAACCUAAACAAAAUCUGCAGUUGACAAAGGUCAAAAUUAACUUACCUCGCAGAUGGAUUUGUUAUCUAUGAUAGAAGAUUAUAUUUAACUAUAUCAAGGCAGAGAAGAUACUCUCAUCCAAAGAGAGACAACAGCAGCCCUUUUUCCCAGAGUCUUCAAAUGAUACAGGAAAUGGGCCAGGAACCAUUGAAGCAUAAGAGGUACAAUGAUAGAGUCUUCCAAGUCAACUUUAUUUAGUUGAGUAUUGGGUAAGGAGUAGAUAGCGUUGAAACGUUAUGACUGGUGGAUGAGAGUCAUUCAAAAUAAUAGGCAUACAUGAUUUAUUCAUAUAUAAAUUAAACAAAGAAAAUUAGGGGGUAAUUUUGAGCUGUUUGUUUUCGCAUGAUUUCUUCUGACUGUGUUGCUGGGCAUUACUAGGUCUUUUCUUUUUAAUUUUUCAUGUUUUAUUUUAAGACGAUAUCCAGAAGUAGUAGGUAUGGUAUAUGAAUUAUGGUCUGCGGGCAUGUUGAACACAGACUUGAAUUUCACUUAGAAUGAUAAACAUUCAUAGAGCCAAAUGUAAAUCCAGGCGAAUUUGAGAAAGGAUAUGGAGGUUCAUUAUCUCUGGUGACGCUUAAUAAAUAUAAAGUCAGCUCUUUAUGACCAUACCUAACAGCGCUGUGAAGAGGCGCAAAAUUGUCGCGUUGGCAGAUAUUGGGCAAGCUUGGGUUUUUGUUCACUAACAACUUGACUGCUUUUAUAUUGCCAGCCCUUGCAGCGUUGAAAAGGGCAGUGACGCCAUCAGAAUCCCGCAGAGCCAGUGCCUCACUUGGCAAAAACUCAACCAACUUCUCCACGAAACCCAUUCUGGCCUCUCCUAACUCAACUGCUAUGUGAAGCAUUCGGGAAUCAUCUGUUCUGAUCGGGGCGGAGAAUGAUCGUGGAUCAUCCUUCAAUAAUUUUGAAGCACUUUCCCAGUCACCAUUGAGCACAGCUUUGUACAGUUCCAAGUAAUAGAAUUCUGCAGUCACAAAACCAAAAGAUGUAUACGUCAGCCUAGAUUUCCCUGAUAUGUAUAUUUCUUCAACGUUCACAACAUCCUAAUACUAAAAUUAUUUUUUAAAAAAUAAAUCAUUUAAGUUAUGUUUGGCUUUUAUAAAAUUUGACAAAAAUUACAAGGAAAAGAAAGUAAAUUGAAAAAAUUGAAGGUUAGAAAAAGUGAAAUAAAAUACAUCUAAAAUCAAUAAAUUAAUUAUUUUUAUAUGCUACUCAUUUCACUUAUUUUAAUUAUUUAAUAUAAAAAUUAAAUAAUUUAAAAUUUCAUAAAUUUAUAACUAAUUUUAAUUAUAUUUGAUUUUCUUAAAUAUUUUUUUUCGAUAUAACCAAAUACGGGAAAAUUAUUUUCCUUGAUAUCUUUUCUUGGACUUCUUUGUUUACCUCUAAUCAACAUCUUUAUAUCUUUCAAUAAUAGUUUGAACCUCCAUUUUUUAUUUUAACACUUCUACUUGUAUACUAAUUAUGCCCAAAAUACACGGAAAUGGACAUGAACAUGGCUUUCAGCAUCUUACCGGAGCUGCUACAGUUAUUGGUAAGGUGUGCCGUGUCGAUGGUAGUAGUUCUUUUCAAUGAUGAAGUGGAAGAGGAAGCAACAGUUAGGAUUGUUUGGGCUGUCAUCGAUUACAACAAAUUCCUUAUCGUUCUUAUAGUCAUUGCCAUGUUUAGCAAAGUUAUUCUAAUGUGUAACAGAAAACCUAAACAAAAUCUGCAGUUGACAAAGGUCAAAAUUAACUUACCUCGCAGAUGGAAGAUUAUAUUUAACUAUAUCGAGGCAGAGAAGAGAGUCUCAUCCAAAAAUAAAAACUUUGCUCUCAAAGUAUUCUAAGAUGAUCAACAAGCCCUAAGAAUCAUGUAGGAAAAAUUUUAAAAAUUUUCUCUAACUAUAAACCAAAAAUUCUAACACCCUAAAUUUCCAAGCAAAAUAAACGAAUUGUGUGUAACCAAAAUCAAUCUUGUUGUGCUACGCUCGGGUUUUCGGGGGUCAAGCUCCUCGUUGAGGUCGUAGGGGUCGGGGGGCAACACCCUCUAGAAUUUUUUUUUCAUUAUAUUUAUUAUUUUUUAUUUAUCUAUCCAACUGGAACAAUAGAAACCCUAAACAAUGUUAAUGAGAGUUGGGUAACACUACAUUUUAUAUGGAGCAACACUACACAACGAAACCAUAAAGAUCAAGGAAAAUCCAUGAAAAAUAAACAAGAAAUGAGUAUGAGUGUAAUGCGUACCUGGAAUGUGACAAACCCACAAUGAAACCCUAAAAUCGCCUUCAAUGGAAGUUAGGAUGAUGAACAAGGAAAGAGGAAACAAGGGAAAAAGGAGAUGAAAAUUGUAAUAUCUGAUAGAAAUAAAGGUAUAUAAAAUAUCGUUUUUUCACCAACAAAAAUUAUCAAAACUUUUCAACACUAUCUACUCUACAGAAUGUUUGUUAAAGUCUUCCUUGGAGCAAAAUGACCUCCACAAGCUCCCUCAUGGCACAUUCACAAUAUGUUUUGUUGUUCAUCCUCUGGAACACAUCUCCGAAUAAUUUGAUUUGGGCAAAACUUAUACAAAUAUGGAUCAUCCCAAGCAUAGUGUUUUGCUCACGAAAGAAAAUACUUUUUCAUCUCCAUGUUCCAUUAUGAGAGAAGCUCUCUAAUUGCCAAGUAGCUGAGUAUAUUUGCGAACCAAGGCAACUCUCCACUACACAAAGUGCAUCAUCAAGAAACUCAUCAUUCAUCUUUUCUUUCUCGAAAUGUGACUCUACUUUAACUCAGGAGAGAUGAUUAGUAACCAGAUUCUCUUCCCUUGCUUAUCCUUGAUUUGAAUGUUAAAUUCUUAAAGAAGAAGGAUCCUCUCUUUGACCUAGUACGACUCCCACUACAUAGUCAAUCGCAUUACACAUCAACUCAAAUGGAAGAGACCAAUUGGGAGGUCUCACAAUUGGUGUAGUAGUGAGGAGUGACUUUAGCCUCUCAAAAGCUUCUUGGCAUGCUUUAGUCCAUAUGAAUUCUGCAUCCUUAAGUAAUAAAGCACAAAGAGGUUGAGAGACUUUUUAGAAGUCGUGUAUGAACCUUCUAUAAAAAUAUGCAUGCCCCAAAAAUUGUCUCACCCCUUUAACAGUAUUGGGCGAAGGUAGCUUUGAGAUGAGCUCAAUUUUUGUUGAAUCUACCUGAAUGCCUUCUCUAGAGAUGAUAUGACCAAGUACUACCCCUGAGGUUGCCAUGAAGUGACAUUUAUCCCAAUUUAGGACCAAGUCCUUCUCAAUGCACCUUUUCAAAACUUUUUUCAAAUUUAAGAGACAAUCAUCAAAGGUCUUCCCAUAAACUGUUAGAUCAUCCAUGAAAGCUUCCAUGAUUCUCUCUACCAUGUCAUUGAAGAUAUUGAGCAUACACCUUUGAAAUGUGGUCGGUGCAUUACAAAGACCAAAAGGCAUGCACUUAUAAGCAUAGGUGUCAAAUGGGCAGGUGAAUGUGGUUUUCUCCUGAUCCUCCAAUGCAAUGGAAAUUUGAAAGUAGCCCGAAUAGCCAUCCAAGAAGCAAUAAUAGUCAUGACCAACUACCUUCUCCAAAACUUGAUCUAAGAAAGGUAAUGGGAAAUGAUAUUUCUUGGUGGCUGCAUUCAACUUUUUAAAAUCAAUGCAUACUUGCCAACCUGUAGUCAACCUUGUAGGAAUGAGCUCUCCUUCAUCAUUCUUCACCACAGUUAUCCCGCUUUUCUUAGGUACUACUUGAGUAGGGCUCACUAGACUACUGUCAGAGAUAGGAUAUAUAAUACCUGCAUCUAAAAGCUUCAAUACCUCAUUUCUGACUACAUCUUGCAUAAGGGGAUUUAGCCUUCUUUGUGGUUACCCUAUUGGUUUUGCGUUCUCUUCCAAAUAAAUAUGAUACGUGCAAAUCAAGGGAUUUGUCCCUUUCAAAUCUAAAAUAGACCAACCAAUCACUCUUUCAUUCUCUUUAAGCACUUUUAAAAAUUUGAUUUCUUGCUCUUCAGUUAAUGUAGUUGAAAUGACCAAAGGUUUUUCUUCAUUUUCCUCUAAAUAAACAUACUUUAAACCAUGUGGUAGGGGCUUUAACUCUGCUUUGCUGAUCUCAACCUCCAUUUUUUUUUUCUUCAUCAUUUUCAACAUUGUUCAAAGACUGAAUGGUAAAUUUUUCUUUCCACUUUGUAGCAACUUCAACACUCUUUCCUUAAUGAUUGUAGAGAAAAAUUCAUCUAUAUUUUCUUCCAUUUAAUUUCUUAUGUUUUCUUGCACCAAGACCUCUAUAAGGCAUGCUUCCUCAUCCUCCACAUCAUCAUGGUCCAUCAGUUGCUUGCAUAAAUUGAAGAAAUUCAUUUCCACUGUCAUGUUCGCAAAAAAUAACUGCAUCAAUCCAUUCUGAUAGUUAAUGAGAGCAUUGGUUGUAGCAAGGAAGGGUCUCCCAAGAAUAAUUGGAACAAAAUUCACGCAUUUUUUCAACGAUUCUAUAUCUAGCACCGCAAAGUCCAUUGGGCAGUAGAACUUUUCAACUUGCACUAAGACAUCUUCAACUACUCUUUUAGGUACUUUAAUUGAACGGUCUGCUAAAGAGAGUGUAAUGGUAGUAGCCUUAAGCUCUCCCAAUCCCAAUUUCUUAUAGAUUGAAUAUGGAAUCAAAUUUAUACUAGCUCCCAAAUCUAACAAAGCCCUUUCCACAAAUGAGUCUCCAAUCUGGAUUAAGAUGGUAGAACAACCUGGAUCUUUGUACUUCACCAUUGUCUUAUUCUCGAUGAUGUCAUUGACUUGCUCGGUGAGGAAUGCUUUCUUGCUUAAUUUAAUCAUUUUCUUCAUAGUGCAUAAGUCCUUAAGGAACUUUGCAUAAGCAAGCACUUGCUUGAUCAUAUCAAGGAGUGGAAUGAUGAACUUCACUUGCUUCAAAACUUUCAAAACCUCAAAAGUCUUAUCCCCCACUUUAUGUCUUUGCAUUGAUGAAGGGAAAGACAGAUGAUUGAAAAUACUCUUUUUAUCUUUGCUCACAAUGACUUUCUUAUAUUUUUCAUACUCUUUCUCAUUUCUAGCAUUUUUCUCCACGAUUGGUUCAUUUCUAAUAAGAAUAUCUUCACUUAUUGCUAACUUGGGCCUUUCAUAUUCUUUCCCAUUUCUGAGUGUGAUAACUGCAUUGCAAUCUUCCUUUUGCACUUCGGAAACUUCAUUUACUCAUCUCGAAUUUUUCUAUGGUUGAGUUGUGAACUUUCUUUUCUCUUGAGAUAAGCUUCUAGCAAGUUGGUUCAAAGUGGUUCGAAUAUUUGCUAGUUCUUAAGAUGUUUGAGCAUUUAUCCUAUUUUGAUCCUCAUUACGCUUGUUUUGCUUCUAUAUAAACUCUCUUAGCAUAUCUUCCAGGCUUGAGUUAAAUGAUGAGAUUUGAGGUUACUGUUGAAAAUUUUGAGAUGGCAUACCUUGUGGUUGAAAACCUUGCUACCCAUUAGUCUGAUUACCUUGAAAUCAGUUUCCUUGCUAUUGAAGUUGGCCAUUGUUACCUCAUCUCCAUGAUAGAUUUGGAUGAUUCCUCCAACCCGGAUUAUAAGUGUUAGAAUAUGGAGAAUUGCUAGAAUAUUGCUUGUAUGUCCUUAAGGCAUUGGCUUGCUCUGAAAACAUGUUUUGCACUGCAAGUAGAGUAGGACAAGAUUACACACCAUGUUCCAUAGACUUACAUAUCUAGAAUGGUUGAGUUAUUCCCUCAUUAACUAUUUGUACCUCUUGACCUCCCUUAGCUUCCAAAUCAUCCAACCUUCUCAUAAUGGUUACAAACUUUGCUUGGACAUCUAAACUCUCUGUAAGGUAUACACUCCACUAGCUCUUGCCCUAUUCAUUGUUCUAUCUCUAGGUGUUUCCUUGAUGAUUGGUUCUUCCCAACUUCUAGAUACCUCAGCAACAUAAUCAAGGAAUUGAAAUGCUUCAUCGAGGUUUUUAUUCAUGAAAUCUCAUCCACACAUAGUCUCGAGAAGUUGUUUUUCCUUCAUAGAAAUAUGAUACUAGCAUCCAAUUGUCAAAUCUGUGAUGGGGGCAUGUUGCAACCAUCUCCCUAAAUUUUUCCCAGGAUGCAAAAAAUUUCUCAUCUUUUAUAGCCUUGAAAUUCGAGAUCUCCUUUUUCAAUGCACUAGUCCUAUGUGUUGGAAAGAACUUUUUAAAAACACUAAUUGUCAAUCACCCCAAUUUUUUAUACUACAGGGUCUAAGACUAUUUAACCAAGUCUUAGCUUUAUCCUUCAAUGACAAGGGGAAUAGCUUCAUGCGGAAGGUCUUUAAAGAAGUGUUGGCUUCUCGAAAAAUUGAAGCGAUGUCCUCAAAUUCCUUGAUGUGAGAGUGUGGCUUUUCAUUUUUUGUCUCCCUAACAAUGGGUAGUUGAGAUACCACUUGAGGCCGAAUGGUAACAUGAUCGUGAUUUGGAGGUAGCAUAAAACACGAUGGUGUGCUCAACCUAGGAGGAUUUAGAAACUCUCUCAUGGUUUUUUGGUCCUGCAUAGGUGGUCAUGGCCUGUUGUUACUACUGUUGGAUUCUUCAGUGUCCUCCAUAUUUGGUUGAGAUUCCUUAGUUGUUCUUUGAAGUCUACUUGAAAGAUCUCUUUCCCAACCAAGCAUAAAAUAGAAGAAAAAUAUAUAUAGAGAAAAAAAAAAGAACUAAAACAAAGUGAUGCACUAUAUCCUAGUUAUGACGAUUGCUAAUCCCCACCAACGACGACAGUUUCUUGACUAAAAUUCUUUAUUGUACUAAAAUACUUAGCAUUUUUUACGUAGCAACUCCAGUUAAGAAAAACUAGAGAAAUAGUCACUACGACUUUUGUAGUACUUCGGGCAUCGUCCUCAAGGACUGGCAUAUGGAAAGAGUCAAUACUAGAAUAAAUGAAUUGCUUUCGUUUAAAUCCUAAAGUGAAAAAUAAUAUGAGAAUAAUGUGAAACUAAGUAAAAGAAAUUAAAUUAAUAAAAAAAUGGAUAUUGAUAUUAAAUUCGAUUGAUUCACGUUUAGGGCUUUCCACAAUCCAACCUAGGUUAUAGAAAUUAGAGAAAACAAGGGUCUUUAAAGUAAUAUGAUCUUAGGGUUUUGGGAUCCUUGGCCGUUCACAAUCAAAUUGAGUUUUAUAACUUGAAAUUGCAUUUGAAACCUAUUUUUUCCUUUUUUAAAACAAAUUCCUAAAGCCAUUAAAUGAAUGAGAUUGAUUACCAGUUUAAGAUUUGGCUUUUUAACCCUUCCUACUCCUUAUAGCUUUGUUUUGGGGCAAAUAAUGAUAGGGAAUAUGAGGAUAACUAAUGAUAAAAAAAUUACCAAGAAUCAUUAGUAUCGGGUAAUAACCUACCAUAUCAUUCCCUAAACUAACUCACAAGGAUAGGACAAAAAAAAUGAUAAAUUGUCACCCAACCAAUAAUUAAUCUAAUUGUUAUAAUAAUUUAUCCAUUGUCCUUUUAGGUUUCCUAGCCCUUAGGUUUUCAUGCUUUAAGCCCCAAGUUGGCUCUUAACCUCUCAUGGGGGUGAUGUCACAUUCACAAUCCAUAAUAUGGUAAAAAUCCAUAAUUUGAAUCAAAAGAACCUAAAACAACAUAUUUAAUAAAGAAGAGAAAGAAAACAAACCAAAGUUCUCAUCUUCUUCUACCUUCAAUGUCAAACUCUUCGAAAAAAAAAAUCCAAGAUCCCUAAAACCUAGAACUAAGAAAGUUUAUAUAAUAUCAUCAAUUACCUAACAUGUGCCACACUCUCAUUGGCCCCUUAUUACAAAAAUAAUUACCUAAAAAUGAUUUAAAAAAAUAAUAAAAUUGUGAUUUCUAGUCAUAUGAGGUCCAUUUAGGGCGGAUGGAAUGCCCUAGAUGCAAUUACUGAGGUAAAGGAGGUGAAACAUUAAAGUGGCAAUAGGUGAAUUUGAAAUUGGUGUCAUUUUGAUGUGGAUUUCGAAUUCAUAAGUUGAAUUUCGAAAUCAUUUCGAAAUGACCCUUAAACUUUGUGCAGUUGUUUUCAAAUGGCCAUAACUUCUUCAUUUCAGCUCUGAUUUUCACACUAUUUGAAGCAUUGGACUCAUAACAUCCCAAGAAACGAUAUAUUGUAUAUAUAAAAUGGAGUCCGAGAAGUGCUCCAAAUUUUUCCUCAAAGUUAAAGUAUAUAUUACCAUCAAAUUUUUGAGUUCUAAAUUUCCAUGUAGCUGAAUCUUGCUUCAUGCCUCAUUUCCUAUGUUUUCUUGCCUUCUUUCUUACUCCAUAAUGGUCAUUUCUCAUCUUCCAAACUCAUAAUAUCCUUGUCUUGCCUUUCCUCGUGGUCCAUGAGUUCUGACUCACUUAUUUUCUCAUUUAACCCUUUCUUGAUCUUUCAAAAUUUAAAGUGAUUCAACUUGUACCCUUUUCUUCCCUUGAACCUAAGAUAAGUCUCCAAAGUACAAAUUAAACUCAUGGCUAGGGCCUUAGCAUUGAUUUAGGUCAAGUUGGGUGAUUUGAAUGUUCUUUGGUGAAUAAAUCAUAUUGAAUAUGUACCAUUAGAGCACAUAUUUUGGCUCCAAUCAAGCUUACCCGCCAAACAUUGAGUGAUAAAAUGGAGUGGGUUGUCUAAAGAUUCAUUUGAGGCUCUAUAGUAUAGUCAUGAGAGCACACAAAUUAGAUAAUAUGUAGUUGGUUGCUCUCUUCCCCAUGUCACUUAGUUGAGCAGCAUAGAGGUGGUUGGCAUUAAUUAAGCCUUUGAGACUCUAUACUUAGGAGGAUGUGGCCUAUGAGUUUCUGACACAGUUUGCCUUUAGUGUCGAUAUUGAUUUUUUUUUUUUUACUAAACAAGAUGUCGAGAGUGUUACUUAACCAUCCCUAUGGCAAAAGCAAAAAUUGUUGCCUUUAGUGCUAAUAUUAAUGUUUCUAAGCGAGAGUUAGAGGCUACUAAGUAGAGGCCAAAUGAGUUUGUUUCUUCAUUUAUUAGUCAUUAGAGGGCUAAGGUGGUUGGUAUGAUAGAUUGACUUAAGGAGUAAGAUCAUAUUGACGUGCUUCUUUGGAACCUUCAACCGAGGUUUGCCAGACAUCUUAUAGGUAUUCCAUUUCAAGACUUCUGAAGUUUGGUUCAAGUCGUUUUCAGUGUUUAGGAGGGUAUUUCUAAAGGGUUAUAGACAAACACUAUUCCUUCCUUAGACAAUAAAGAAAAGAAGCCUAUAGGAUCAUUAGGGAGGCUUGGAGAGGUUAGCACUAUCAGUUAUCAUCAUCGAGGUCAACUUAUCAGUCAUACCAAAGGUCUCCUAUAAUCAAAGCCUACUUUCCUCAUCUAUUGUGUCAAUAUUAGUCCACUUAUAUUCAACAACCUUUCAUUGCUUGGACUAGUAUGCAACCAUGACUGUCGUAUCCCAGAGCCACUGGUUCUCAUUCAUUACUCAUAUUCCCACUCAUAUUUUUUAAAACAUGUGAUCUUUAUCAUAAAGGGGCAUAUUUGUAGACCCUUCAUUCUAUCUCCUUAAUACAUAAGUGUUCUUUCAAUACUCCCCAAUGGUUCCCUAAUGGCUCUUUACUGCUCAUAUAGCCAACAUUUUUUAGUCACCUUGGAGACUUUGGUUGAGGAAUUUAUUUGACCCCUCGUUAUGACCCUUAGCAGAAUCGAGUUAGAUUUAGGUUUUUCUUUUUUCUUUUUAGGAUAGCUCCUUUAAGUACAUCUCUAGGAUAGAAUACUUAGGCAUCAUUUUUCAAUCACCUUGGCCCAUUUAGGCACAUUUGACCCAUUUAGGAUCACCCUAACCCAUUUAGAUCCAUUUGGCCUAUUUAGUUCACCUUGACUGAUUUAGACACAUUUGACCCAUUUAGGUACAUCCAACUCAUUUAGGUCACCCUGGCUCAUUUAGACACAUAUAGGCCCAUUUAGGCACAUCCGACCCAUUUAGGAUCACCCUGGCCUAUUUAGACACAUCCAACCUAUUUAGGAUGCCCUUGUCCCAUUUAGACACAUUUGGCCCAUUUAGGAUUACCUAGGCCCAUUUAGGCACAUUCGACCCAUUUAAGUCAUCUUAGCCCAUUUAGACCACUUAGGCCCGUUUAGGCACAUUAGGCACAUAGGACCUAUUUAGGAUCACCCUAACCUACUUAGUCACACCUUGACCCAUUUAGGUCACUUAGCCCAUGAUUACUACUCAAAAAGUGCUAUUUGAUAGCCUAUAAUAAAUCCUUUUAAACACUUUUGAGUAGUAGUUUAGGCCUUUUAACUCAAUUGGCAUGUUAAGGACCCUUGAAAGGGAUUUUAAUCACUUUGUGUAAGUUUUGGUGUUUUUGUUAGUAAUUUAAUCACCAAAGCAAGUCAAGACUAAGGAGAGCUAUGAGGAAUCUUGGGCAAAGCUUAGAAGUCAUUUUCCAAGAGUAAAUCCGGAUUGCAAGGAGAAAAAGUAAAGAGAAUCUGCCAUGAAGCCUAUUCUUGAUGACAGUCGUAGCAGCCACUUUUGGAGCAUUUUAUGAAGCUCAAAUGAUGCAUGCUAUAUACCAUUUCAAAGCUCAGGAAGUCAACAAUCCAAUUCUUCAAACGGUGUGCAAUUUCGAGUUGAAACGAAGAAGUUGCAGCCGUUACAAGCCAAUCACUCCGAGCUGAAGGAAGCAUUUUGCAAAGUGCUGCGAAAUCACCCAUUUGUUGCAAAGUGAUUUCGCAGCCUUUUUGAACAGUGUGAUGUUUCUCCUUCUGACGAUGCCCGACAUAUACCGUGAGAGGGAAGCUAGGAACCUCAAGGUGGGAGCCAACUUCGCAGCCCUGCGAGUUUAACUUGUUGAUGCGAAAAUAUUUCGCAGCCCUCUUGAGUGUCUGCGAAAUCUCGCAGACACCAUUUUUCUCUUGCGAAAUGGUUCCUGAAGCCUCCUGAUAUUUGCUACCGACAUUGGGAGAUAUUUUCCAUUAGAUUUUUGUUGUCUAAAUCCCAAAGUACUCCUUGUAAACCACCAAUUACAUGAUUCCUUAGCUUUUAAGUUAGUAAAAAGACUAAAUAUCUAUGUAAUAAUUAGUUUUAUAUUAUGUUCAUAUAUAUACCUCUCGGGAGCCUGUUCUCAGGGAGGAGUUCCUUCUAUAAAAGUUUGGGUAAGCAAGUAAAGUUUAUUUCUUUCUAUUGCUUUACCUUCUCACUUUGUAUUUUCAUUUUCUUACUAAGUUAUGAAUUCUCUGAGGAGUUUUUCCCAGAGAAUGAGUAACUAAACCUCUAAUUCCUUGGAGCUAAGGUUGCCAGGGAAGGUUCCAAGUGCAAGAAUGCAAGGCUUUGUGGUUUUAGCUAUUAAUGAAGAGGAAGUGAAAUCCUUUAAUGAUUUCUAUGUUUUUAGUUAACUUAAAACACCUUAGAGUCACCUGGGCCAACACUUGGUAAGGCAUGUGAUUUCCAACCAAGGAAAUGCACUAGUUUACCCCUUACGAGCCUCUGGGAGGUGACUUUAGGGUAGGAUUUUCUAGAAUAGCCAACACUUGGUAAGCUUUUGGACUCCUAAGAGACAUCCAUUAGUUAUCUCUUGCGAGCUUUUGACGGGUAAUCCAAGGUUAAAGAUCACCUUGAAUGGUUGAGGCUUAGUGAGAGGCUUAAACCAUUGCAAGUUGCAUCAGUGAGAGAAUUAAAGUGAAAUCUAAUUGAAGGAGUCUCUGUACAACACCGGUUAGAGAAUUGACUAUAUGUUGAAUCUCUAACGCGAGGAAAUGAACCAUCUGACCAGAGCCGUGUCUUUUGCAUGAGGAACCACCCCAGUGAACCUAACUCUCCAGGGAAUGCUUUUCUUCCUAAAUUAUUCCAAACUUCUGUUGUGUUAGUUAGUUUAAGUCUAAACCUUUACCAAUCAAAGCUUGUGUUUUACUUGUUAAGCUAACCAUGAAAUGAAACAAAACCAAUUCACUUGGAAUUGGUAUCAUUGAUAGCUUGCUAAUCCUUCCCAGUGAACGAUCCUAGAGCCGCUAUACUAUAGUAGCUUUUUCUUUGCUACCCUAUUAUAUGGUGUUAUAGGUUAUAAAUUUUGUUGAUUACUCCCUCAAUCAAGGAGCACCAGCUGGACACGAAUCAGCUGAGACACCAAUUAGGCACGAAUCAAAUGGCGCCGUUGCCGGGGAUCGAACCCCGAAUCAGAUGGUGCCAUUGCCACUUCCGCUGCUAGGGACGAAUCAAAUGGUGCCGUUGCCGGGGAAUGAGUGUCAAGUUUAUAUUGAUACCAUUUUUGAGCACUUGUGAUUUUCAUCACAAGUUGGUAAAGUUUCUUUCACUUUACUAAUUCUCAUUCUUUCUUUAUUUAUUCAUAAUCUAAGUUUAUCUUUUAAAAUUUAGCCUAGUUUAAUUUUGUUGUUGUAGCCCUGUUUUUCUUGUUGUCCUCUGUUUUCAUUUUUUGUUGCAGAUUGAUACUAGUUGUGUAUGCCAAAGUGGAUACGAGACAUUGGAGGCAGGCUUGUUAAGUGUGAUACACCUCAGAGAAGAGAAUUCGAAGUGAUCUUGAAUAUCAUGGAAGCUACACCUGAAGAUCAACAUAGUCACCAAGGUCGUCAAGAUAAUCUUAAUGAAUUCAGAUCAAUGAGGGAUCGUAUGCAUCCACCUCGUAUGAGUGCACCAUCAUGUAUAGUGCCCCCUACAGAGCAGCUAGUGAUCAGACCGUAUCUUGUUCCACUUCUACCAACUUUCCAUGGAAUGGAAAGUGAGAAUCCGUAUGCACACAUCAAGGAAUUUGAAGAUGUUUGUAAUACAUUCCAAGAGGGAGGAGCUUUAAUUGAUUUGAUGAGGCUUAAGUUAUUUCCUUUUACUUUAAAGGAUAAGGCCAAAAUUUGGCUUAAUUCUUUAAGGCCAAGGAGUAUCCGCUCUUGGAUUGAUUUACAAGCUGAAUUCCUUAAGAAAUUUUUUCCCACUCAUAGAACAAAUGACUUGAAAAGGCAAAUUUCAAACUUCUCAGCUAAAGAGAAUGAGAAAUUCUAUGAGUGUUGGGAAAGAUACAUGGAAGCUAUAAAUGCUUGUCCUCACCAUGGCUUUGAUACUUGGCUAUUGGUGAGCUAUUUUUAUGAUGGUAUGUCCUCCUCAAUGAAGCAACUCCUCGAGACAAUGUGUGGAGGAGAUUUCAUGAGCAAAAAUCCAGAGGAAGCUAUGGAUUUCUUGAGCUAUGUAGCUGAUGUUUCAAGGGGAUGGGAUGAACCAACCAAAGGAGAAGUGGGAAAGAUGAAGUCUCAGUUGAAUGCUUACAAUGCAAAGGCUGGGAUGUAUACCUUGAAAGAAGAUGAUGAUGUGAAAGCAAAGUUGGCAGCUAUGACAAGAAGAUUGGAGGAGCUGGAGCUGAAAAGAAUACAUGAAGUGCAAGCUGUUGCUGAAGCACCAGUGCAAGUGAAGUUGUGUCCCAAUUGUCAAUCAUAUGAACAUUUGGUGGAGGAAUGCCCUGCAAUUUCAGCUGAAAGGGAAAUGUAUAGAGAUCAAGCAAAUGUUGUUAGACAAUUCAGGCCUAAUAACAAUGCGCCUUAUGGAAAUACCUACAACUCAAGUUGGAGGAAUCAUCCAAAUUUCUCAUGGAAGGCCAGAGCAACUCAGUACCAACAGCCGGAUCCACCAUCUCAACAAUCUUCAAGUAUUGAACAAGCAAUAGCCAAUCUCACUAAGGUAGUGGGAGAUUUUAUUGGAAAGCAAGAAGCCACCAAUGCUCGAGUCGAUCAAAGAAUUGAUAGAGUGGAGAGUAUGUUGAAUAAAAGGAUGGAUGGAAUGCAAAAUGAUAUGAACCAAAAGUUUGAUAACAUCCAGUAUUCAAUUUCAAGGCUCACAAAUUUGAAUACACUGCAAGAAAAGGGAAGAUUUCCUUCUCAACCUCACCAAAACCCCAAAGGUGUCCAUGAAGUGGAAAGCCAAGAGGGAGAAUCAUCACAAAUGAAAGAAGUUAAAGCCUUGAUCACUCUAAGGAGUGGUAAAAAAAUUGAGCAGCCAACACCCAAGCCACAUGUUGAGAAAGAAGAAGAGAUAAAGAAAGGGAAGGAAAUGGAAGAUAAAGAGAGUGAGAUCAAUGAAGAAAAGAAGGACUCUGAUUCAACAAGGAAAGUAAUUCCAGAGAAGGAGCUUCUGAAGGAAGAAAUGCUGAAGAAAUCAACUUCUCCACCUUUUCCUCAAGCAUUACAUGGGAAAAAGGGGAUUAGAAAUGCAGCUGAAAUCCUUGAAGUAUUGAGACAAGUGAAAGUCAAUAUUCCACUGCUGGAUAUGAUUAAACAAGUUCCAACGUAUGCAAAAUUCCUAAAGGACUUGUGUACUAUCAAGAAAGGGUUAACUGUAAACAAGAAAGCCUUCUUGACUGAGCAAGUAAGUGCAAUCUUACAGUGUAAGUCUCCUUUGAAGUACAAAGACCCUGGAAGUCCUACCAUUUCAGUCAUGAUUGGAGGAAAGGUAGUGGAAAAAGCCUUGCUAGAUUUGGGAGCAAGUGUGAAUUUGCUUCCAUAUUCCGUCUACAAGCAAUUGGGACUUGGAGAGUUGAAGCCAACAACAAUCACUCUAUCUCUGGCAGAUAGAUCAGUGAAAAUUCCAAGAGGGGUAAUUGAGGAUGUAUUGGUUCAAGUAGAUAAUUUCUACUAUCCAGUAGAUUUUAUUGUUCUUGAUACAGAUCCUACUAUAAAGGAAGCUAAUUUAGUUCCUAUCAUCCUUGGAAGGCCAUUUCUUGCAACUUCAAAUGCAAUCAUCAACUGCAGGAAUGGGCUUAUGCAACUCGCUUUUGGUAACAUGACACUGGAUCUCAAUAUUUUCUAUAUGUCUAAAAAGCAAAUCACUCCGAAAGAAGAAGAAGGACCAGAAGAGUUAUGUAUUAUUGACACUCUGGUGGAGGAGCACUGUAAUCAAAAUAUGCAAGACAAGUUGAAUAAAAGUCUUGUGAAUUUUGAGGAAGGUUUGUCUGAAUCUCCUAUUGGGCUUGCUACUCUACAAAGUUGGAGAAAGAUAGAAGAAAUUCUACCUUUGUUCAAUAAAGAAGAGGAGGCAGCUGUUGAAAAAGAAAUUCCAAAACUCAAUCUGAAGCCUUUACCUGAGGAGCUGAAAUAUAUAUAUCUUGAGGAAAAUAAUCAAUGUCCUGUUGUGAUAUCUUCAUCUCUGACCAGUCAUCAAGAGAAAUGUUUAAUGGAAGUUCUCAAGAAGUGUAAGAAGGCAAUAGGAUGGCAAAUAUCUGACUUGAAAGGCAUUAGUCCUUUAGUUUGUACUCAUCAUAUAUAUAUGGAGGAGGAAGCAAAGCCAAUUCGUCAAUUUCAAAGAAGGUUGAAUCCUCAUCUACAAGAGGUGGUGCGAGCUGAGGUGCUGAAGCUACUUCAAGCAGGAAUCAUUUACCCUAUAUCUGAUAGCCCUUGGGUGAGUCCUACUCAAGUGGUACCAAAGAAGUCAGGGAUCACAGUGGUUCAAAAUGAAAAAGGGGAAGAAGUUACUACACGCCUCACUUCAGGUUGGAGGGUGUGUAUUGAUUAUAGAAAGCUGAAUGUUGUAACCAGGAAAGAUCAUUUUCCAUUGCCAUUUAUUGAUCAAGUGCUGGAGAGAGUCUCUGGACAUCCAUUUUAUUUUUUUUUUGGAUGGGUAUUCAGGGUAUUUUCAUAUUGAAAUUGAUUUGGCAGAUCAGGAAAAGACCACUUUUACAUGUCCAUUUGGAACAUAUGCUUAUAGGAGAAUGCCUUUUGGUUUAUGCAAUGCACCUGCUACAUUUCAAAGAUGUAUGUUGAGUAUUUUCAGUGAUAUGGUGGAGCGAAUUAUGGAGGUUUUCAUGGAUGACAUCACCGUAUAUGGAGGUACAUUUGAGGAAUGCUUGGUUAAUUUGGUAGCAGUUCUUCACAGAUGCAUUGAAAAAGAUCUGGUGCUCAACUGGGAGAAAUGCCAUUUUAUGGUACAUCAAGGAAUUGUCCUUGGCCAUAUCAUCUCUGAAAAAGGCAUUGAAGUUGAUAAAGCAAAGGUGGAGCUUAUUGUCAAAUUACCAUCCCCAACAACUGUAAAAGGAGUAAGGCAGUUCCUUGGCCAUGCAGGGUUCUAUAGGAGGUUUAUAAAAAGUUUUUCAAGUCUUUCAAAACCUCUUUGUGAGCUGUUAGCUAAGGAUGCUAAGUUUAUAUGGGAUGAAAGGUGUCAAAAUAGCUUUGAUCAACUGAAGAAAUUUUUAACAACAACUCCAAUACUAAGAGCCCCUAACUGGCAAUUACCUUUUGAACUGAUGUGUGAUGCCAGUGACUUUGCUAUAGGAGCUGUGCUUGGCCAAAGAGAAUAUGGGAAGCCCUAUGUGAUUUACUAUGCAAGUAAAACACUGAAUGAAGCUCAAAGGAACUACACAACUACAGAGAAAGAAUUGUUAGCUGUGGUAUUUGCUUUGGACAAAUUUCGUGCUUAUUUAGUGGGGUCUUUCAUCAUUGUCUUUACUGACCAUUCAGCCUUGAAGUAUUUAUUGACAAAUCAAGAUGCAAAAGCAAGGUUGAUUAGAUGGAUUCUUUUGUUACAAGAAUUCGAUCUUCAAAUCAAAGAUAAGAAAGGAGUGGAGAAUGUGGUAGCUGACCACCUUUCAAGGUUAGUUAUAGCACAUAAUUCCCAUCCCUUGCCUUUUAAUGAUGAUUUUCCUGAAGAAUCACUCAUGUUCCUAGUGAAAACUCCUUGGUAUGCUCAUAUUGCUAAUUAUUUAGUAACUGGUGAAAUUCCAAGUGAGUGGAAUGCACAGGACAGGAAGCACUUCUUUGCCAAAAUUCAUUCUUAUUAUUGGGAAGAGCCCUUUCUCUUUAAGUAUUGUGCAGAUCAGAUUAUUAGGAAAUGUGUCCCUGAAGAUGAGCAGCAAGGGAUUCUAUCUCAUUGUCAUGAGAAUGCAUGUGGAGGCCACUUUGCCUCUCAGAAAACAACCAUGAAGGUAUUGCAAUCAGGGUUUACUUGGCCAUCUCUUUUUAAAGAUGCCCACAACAUGUGUAGGAAUUGUGAUAGAUGCCAAAGACUUGGAAAGCUAACAAAAAGAAUCAAAUGCCUAUGAGCCCCAUUCUAAUAGUUGAGCUAUUUCAUGUAUGGGGCAUUGACUUUAUGGGACCUUUCUCAAUGUCUUUUGGUAAUUCUUACAUCUUGGUGGGGGUAGAUUAUGUUUCUAAAUGGGUUGAGGCAAUCCCCUGUAAACAAAAUGAUCACAGGGUGGUUCUCAAGUUUCUUAAAGAGAACAUUUUCUCAAGAUUUGGGGUGCCCAAAGCCAUAAUCAGUGAUGGAGGUGCUCAUUUUUGCAACAAACCUUUUAAAGCUCUGUUAUCCAAGUAUGGAGUGAAGCAUAAGGUGGCUACACCUUAUCAUCCUCAGACUUCCGGGCAAGUUGAGCUAGCUAACAGGGAAAUAAAGAACAUCUUGAUGAAAGUGGUGAAUUCCAAUAGAAAGGAUUGGUCUAUUAGGCUUCAUGAUUCAUUGUGGGCAUAUAGAACAGCUUAUAAGACUAUUCUUGGGAUGUCUCCCUAUCGUCUUGUCUAUGGUAAAGCAUGCCAUCUCCCUGUGGAAGUUGAAUACAAAGCUUGGUGGGCAAUAAAGAAGUUGAAUAUGGACUUGAUCAAGGCAGGAGAAAAGAGAUAUCUAGACCUUAAUGAGAUGGAGGAAUUAAGAAAUAAUGCUUAUAUCAAUUCCAAAGUUGCAAAACAGAGGAUGAAGAAGUGGCAUGACCAACUCAUCUCCAACAAGGAAUUUCAGGAAGGGCAAAGAGUUUUACUGUAUGACACAAGACUCCAUAUCUUUCUUGGGAAGCUCAAGUCAAGGUGGAUAGGGCCGUUCAUUAUUCACCGAGUAUGUUCCAAUGGAGUGGUGGAAUUAUUGAAUUCCAAUGGCAAGGACAGCUUUAGAGUCAAUGGAUAUCGUCUCAAGCCAUUCAUGGAGCCAUUCAAACCAGAAAAGGAGGAGAUCAACCUCCUUGAACCUCAAAAAGCAUAAGCGAAAAAGGGUUUGCUGGACGUGGUUUACCACAGUCCAAAUUUUUUUGUAAAUUUUGUAAAUUUUCAAGUUGUUUCCAUACUUUUGAUCUUAGUUUUUGAUCUUAAAUCAUGUUUUUAUGUGUAUUUUAAUCUUUUUGAAUGAUCCCAGGUGGAAGAAAUUUCAAGGAGAUUGAAAGAAAAAAAAUCGGGAAGAAAUCGGAGCAAAAAUAGAGUAAAAACAGAGGAAAAACAGAGCUCUGCGAAAUUUCGCAGAGUGAAGGAAACUUCUGCGAAAUGAGCACUAUGCUGCAAAACCAUUCCGCAACACUGUAGAAGUCUCUGCGAGGGUAUUUCGCAACUGCGAAGGCGUUCUUGGCACACGAGUGCCACUUCGCAGCACAGGAACUCUCAUUUCGCAGCUACGAAACGCACUGCAAAGUUACUGCGAAAAUGGCAUUUUGCUACGAAAUUUGCGUUUUGUUGCAAAACUUAAACUGACCCUUAGGCUUCCGUUUUUCCUAUUUAUACCGGUCAUUUGAGCUGCGAAAAGGGUUUCAAAAAUCAGAGCGCCAUUCUCGCAAGCUGUUCGUCUUCUUCAGUGAGCCACGCCGACCAAGCCUCCGGUCAUCUUCUCCGAUCAGCAAUGUCGGCCAAAGUUCGGUAUCCCGAAAUGGCGCGAACACAAGGGGCUAAGUCUUCGUCUCCUUCGAAUCGCAAGAGGAGUCUGCGAAAGGAGCCAGUUUCAGAUCCUGCUCCUCAACCUUUGCAGCCGAAAACAAUCCCUCCUCCAAUGAAGCCAGCGCUGCCAAAGCCUCCGGUGAAGCCCGCACCGCCAAAACCUCUGGCAAAACGAUACCUUACCAGGUCAGGGGGUCGGCCACUGUAGAAGAAGCCCAGGGUUGAGAGCUCAGAACCCAUCGAUUUGACUGAGCAAUCUCCAGAGCCUUCACCAAUUCCAACUCCAGUGCCGUCUCCAGUUCCCUCGCCGAUUCCAAUGCCAGUUCUGUCUCCGGUGUCAUCUCCGGCGCCGAAAGAAAAAUCUCAGGAGCCUCAAGCGCCAAUUCCUGAGCCCCAAAUUCCAUCCGAAACAGCUCUGGAAGAAGUAAUUAGGCGGCCAAUGCUUCAUCAGCCACCAAUUGAGGGAAACUUGGAUUGUAGAACUCGGCCAUUCCAUUCCGAGCUAUGCUUCGACUUACCGGCAUUCAGAGUGAGGCCAGAGCUUGCCCAAUCAUUCCAGCUAUUGAGGAGGUAUCACAUGGAGCACUUGCUGACUCCAAGAGAUUUUUUCUAUCCCCGGAUAGCCACGGAUUUCUAUCAAUCCAUGACAACCAAAGAGGUUAGGAAUCCAACCUUGAUUCAUUUCACUAUCGAUGGGAGACAUGGCAUAUUGGGAGCAUGACAUAUUGCUGAAGCCCUGCAAAUUCCCUUUGAGCCAACCCAAUUCGAUAAUUUUAGAGCUUGGGCAAAUCCUACUGAGCUGGAGAUGGUGCGCACCCUUUCCAGAGGAGCUGCAAAUCGAUCACAUCUGCUGAGGGGGGAGCUUCCUCCAGUUAUGUUUUUGAUUGAUGCAUUUUUACGUCAUAAUAUCUAUCCAUUGCAGCAUUGGACCCAAAGAAGGGGAGUCCUCCUAGAAGCUCUUUACAAGAUGUCAGAAGGAUUUUUCUUUGGGCCUCAUCAUCUGAUCCUAGCAGCCCUUCUCUAUUUCGAAGAGAAGGUUCACAGAAAGAAGCUUCAGAGAGCUGAUUGCAUUCCCCUCCUCUUUCCAAGGCUGCUAUGCCAAAUUUUGGAGCAUCUGGGAUGCCCUUCUAAGCCUCAGCUGGAGAGAAAGCGAAUUUUCCGUGAACCAUUCACUCUUGAUAAAUGGAACAAUAUGACGGCCUACAAAGUUGAUCAGCCUGAGCAGCCUCAGCCAGCUGCAAGAAGAGCAUCCCCAAGACAUAUACCUGAAGGUAUAACAGUUGCUGCUCCUGCCAUUCCUAGAGCUCCACCAGCUGCACCAGCUUCAUCUCAGCCAUCCACAUCAGCUGAGCCGAGGAUGGCCAUUCCUAUAUCUGAAUAUAGAGAGUUGUGUCGUGCAUUGGAGACUCUCACAGCUUCUCAUAGCAGUCUUGCUCAGGAGAUGGCAACCAUUAGAGCAUGCCAAGAGCAAAUGUUGGCCACUCAGGCUCAACAAGCUGCCAUCUUAAGGCAGCUCCAGCUUCAUUUCAAUCUGCCACAAGCUGUAGAGCCCUCCACUGAUACACCACCAGAGCCACACUCUCAUCCUUCAGAGUCUCAUCCUCCAGAGCCCCAAGCCCCAGUUGAUGCACCUACUGAAGAGGCAGAUCCUUCUGCCUAGUCCCAGCACCACCCCACUCAUCAGACUAUAUUAUAUAUCUAAUAUUUUUAUGUAUUUCGUUUUUUUAGUUGAAAAGAAGUCCCAGUAUUUUGGUACUAUAUUUGGGAUUCCUUGUGUUACUUAUCUUUUGCAUUGUAAUCAAAUGAAUUUAAAGUAAUACAAGUUGAAUAUUUCUUGUUAACAGUUAGCAUUAAGUUGUCUUUAUUUCCUUUUCUCACAUAUUCUAUUCUUUUUUAAACAUGUGGUUUUCCCCAAUCAAUAUUCGAAUUUGAUAUCAACAAGGAGGUACCACUUCCUCCCUUUAAUUACAGUCACUCAUAUCACAUUGAGGACAAUGCUUAAUUCGGUUGGGGGGAAUGAGGAAGGAAGUAUGCUAAAUCUUUUUGGUAAUGCAAUUAUUUUGGUAAAUUAGUUGUAAUUUUUACUUUUUACUCUUGUUACUCUAAUCUCCAUGAAUUUUGAGGAAAAAUUUUCAAAUUAAACCAAGAGAAAUUGAACUGUUGUUUUUCACUUGACUUAGAGUAUGGAUUAUGCUUACUAAAGUGGUUCAAUUGUUUAAACUUCUAUUGAAAUUGAAUUUAGUUCUUCCACUUUAAGCUAUCCACACACUGUGCACAUUAGAUUCCGAUUAUAAGAUGAAAAUCUAUUUCCCUCUUGACUUAAGAUAAUUUUGGGACUUGGUAUAUUUGACCUCAUUUGAUAAAAUUGAAACACCCUGCAAAAGGCUAAUGAGCCUUUGAAAUAAAGAAAGUUGUUUGCUUGCCUUGAAACCUGAGCAAGGUCUGAGGGGUAUAUGGUGAAAGCCUUUAAAGCCUGGUGCCCUAAGCCUUAAUUGGUUGGGAGUCAUCGACCUCAAUGCUCGUUACAAGGGUGAAUAGGUAGAGUUAACAUAUGGUAAAUGCUUGGGUAUUAGAAAUUCAUUCUUAAAAGUCUAGGGAAAAAUCCGAGGAGUUAGUGGUUGAAAGAUCCUUAAAGCUUGGUGCCCUAAAUCUUAAAUGGUUGGGAGUCAUCGAUGGACCCCCAUAACAUGGACAAGUCAGAAAAAGUACCACAUAAAGCUACCUUAAAAAAAAAAAUAAAAAAAUAAAAAAAAAUGAUGAAAGUGUGUUCUUUUCUUAUUGAUUUUGGUCAGUUUGCUAAGUGUUGAAAAGAGAUAGGUUGGGGGGAGAGAUUAGUUUAGCAUAUUAUUCUCGGAAGCUAAGGAACCAAUACACAUAGAUUUUUGUGGAAGAUUAAAGUUUGGUUCUUAGAAAGUGGAAAUGACUUUAAAACUUCAGUUUGCAUAAUGCACUCCCUUGAUUGACAGUGUUUAGCAUAGUUUGUUAUAACUCUUGUUGAAAUUUGGGUUUGUAUUUCUUUAAUGUUUCAUGUGAGAAUUAGAUCAUCAUGCCACUUGAGAAUUGAUUUUGAUCAGCAUGAUGUGGUAAAUUUUAAUAUAGGUUGCUUUUUAUUUUCAUUGUUCUCUCCUAUUUUGCUAAGGGACUAGCAAUAUGUCGGUUGGGGGGAGUGAUUACUACUCAAAAAGUGCUAUUUGAUAGCCUAUAAUAAAUCCUUUUAAACACUUUUGAGUAGUAGUUUAGGCCUUUUAACUCAAUUGGCAUGUUAAGGACCCUUGAAAGGGAUUUUAAUCACUUUGUGUAAGUUUUGGUGUUUUUGUUAGUAAUUUAAUCACCAAAGCAAGUCAAGACUGAGGAGAGAUAUGAGGAAUCUUGGGCAAAGCUUAGAAGUCAUUUUCCAAGAGUAAAUCCGGAUUGCAAGGAGAAAAAGUAAAGAGAAUCUGCCAUGAAGCCUAUUCUUGAUGACAGUCGUAGCAGCCACUUUUGGAGCAUUUUAUGAAGCUCAAAUGAUGCAUGCUAUAUACCAUUUCAAAGCUCAGGAAGUCAACAAUCCAAUGCUUCAAACGGUGUGCAAUUCGGAGUUGAAACGAAGAAGUUGCAGCCGUUACAAGCCAAUCACUUCGAGCUGAAGGAAGCAUUUUGCAAAGUGCUGCGAAAUCACCCUUUUGUUGCGAAGUGAUUUCGCAGCCUUUUUGAACAGUCUGAUGUUUCUCCUUCUGACGAUGCCCGACAUAUACCGCGAGAGGGAAGCUAGGAACCUCAAGGUGGGAGCCAACUUCGCAGCCCUGCGAGUUUAACUUGUUGAUGCGAAAAUAUUUCGCAGCCCUCUUGAGUGUCUGCGAAAUCUCGCAGACACCAUUUUUCUCCUGCGAAAUGGUUCCUGAAGCCUCCCGAUAUUUGCUACCGACAUUGGGAGAUAUUUUCCAUUAGAUUUUUGUUGUCUAAAUCCCAAAGUACUCCUUGUAAACCACCAAUUACAUGAUUCCUUAGCUUUUAAGUUAGUAAAAAGACUAAAUAUCUAUGUAAUAAUUAGUUUUAUAUUAUGUUCAUAUAUAUACCUCUCGGGAGCCUGUUCUCAGGGAGGAGUUCCUUCUGUAAAAGUUUGGGUAAGCAAGUAAAGUUUAUUUCUUUCUAUUGCUUUACCUUCUCACUUUGUAUUUUCAUUUUCUUACUAAGUUAUGAAUUCUCUGAGGAGUUUUUCCCAGAGAAUGAGUAACUAAACCUCUAAUUCCUUGGAGCUAAGGUUGCCAGGGAAGGUUCCAAGUGCAAGAAUGCAAGGCUUUGUGGUUUUAGCUAUUAAUGAAGAGGAAGUGAAAUCCUUUAAUGAUUUCUAUGUUUUUAGUUAACUUAAAACACCUUAGAGUCACCUGGGCCAACACUUGGUAAGGCAUGUGAUUUCCAACCAAGGAAAUGCACUAGUUUACCCCUUACGAGCCUCUGGGAGGUGACUUUAGGGUAGGAUUUUCUAGAAUAGCCAACACUUGGUAAGCUUUUAGACUCCUAGGAGACAUCCAUUAGUUAUCUCUUGCGAGCUUUUGACGGGUAAUCCAAGGUUAAAGAUCACCUUGAAUGGUUGAGGCUUAGUGAGAGGCUUAAACCAUUGCAAGUUGCAUCAGUGAGAGAAUUAAAGUGAAAUCUAAUUGAAGGAGUCUCUGUACAACACCGGUUAGAGAAUUGACUAUAUGUUGAAUCUCUAACGCGAGGAAAUGAACCAUCUGACCAGAGCCGUGUCUUUUGCAUGAGGAACCACCCCAGUGAACCUAACUCUCCAAGGAAUGCUUUUCUUCCUAAAUUAUUCCAAACUUCUGUUGUGUUAGUUAGUUUAAGUCUAAACCUUUACCAAUCAAAGCUUGUGUUUUACUUCUUAAGCUAACCAUGAAAUGAAACAAAACCAAUUCACUUGGAAUUGGUAUCAUUGAUAGCUUGCUAAUCCUUCCCAGUGAACGAUCCUAGAGCCGCUAUACUAUAGUAGCUUUUUCUUUGCUACCCUAUUAUAUGGUGUUAUAGGUUAUAAAUUUUUUUGAUUACUCCCUCAAUCAAGGAGCACCAGUUGGACACAAAUCAGCUGAGACACCAAUUGGGCACGAAUCAGCCCAUCUAGGCACAUUUGGCUCAUUUAGGAUCAUAGGCUAAUUUAGGCACAUUCGACCCAUUUAGGUUGCCUUGACCCAUUUAGAAACACCCAAGCCUAUUUAGGUCACUUAGGCCUACUUAGGCACACCUUGCCCUAUUUAGGUCACUUAGGCCCAUUUAGGCACAUUCGACCCAUUUUGGAUCACCUUGACCCAUUUAGGCAUAUUUGGCCCAUUUAGGAUCAUCGUGGCCCAUUUAAACACACCCUGACCCAUUUAGGUCAUUUAGGCCCAUUUAGGAGCAUUCGACCUAUUUAAACAUAUUUGGCCCAUUUAGGAUCAUCGUGGCCCAUUUAAACACACCCUGGCCCAUUUAGCUCAUUAAGGCCCAUUUAAGAACACAUUAACCCAUUUAGGUCACUUAGGCCCAUUUAGGUACAUUUCAUCCCCUAGCCCAUUUAGAAACACCCAAGCCCAUUUAGGUGAUUUAGGCCAAUUUAGGCACAUUUGGUCCAUUUAGACACUCUGGGCUCAUUUAGGUUCACGUAGGCCCAUUUAGGCACAUCCGACCCAUUUAAGAUCACCCUAACCCAUUUAGACACAUUCGACCCAUUUAGGAUCGUCUAGGCCCAUUGUAGCACAUUUGGCCCAUUUAUGAUCACCAUGGCACAUUAGGCCCAUUUAGGGUCACUUAGGCCCAUCUAGGCACACGCUAAGCCCAUUUAGGUCACCCGUUGUCUCACUUCUUAUUGCAUGGUUUGCGUGAUUGCAUUGUUGAACUUCCUUGCAGGGCUUGCAUGACACUUUGUUUUUUUUUUUUUUGUUAUUAUUAAUUACUUAUUUAUUUUUAUUUAUUAUCUUGCUAUUUAUUUAUUUAUUAUUUAUCUAUUAUUAUUUCAUUAUUUUCUAAAUUAUUUUUAAUUACUAUUCAUUUGUUCAAUCUAAUUUUUUAGUAUUAUUUUUUUUUGUGUUUUUGUAGGGAAAUUUACCAAAGAGAGCCAACGGAGAUGGAAAUUAAGAAUCACCAAAAUAAAAAAGGAAGAUAAAGGCAAAAGAGAGUAAAACUUACCAAAAGGAGAGGGGCUUGUGAGUUGCAUUAUGAAAGUAUGGAGAACACAUUUUGGGAGGUUUAUCAAAGAGAGAGUCAAUGGAGGUGUAAAGCAAGAAUUACCAAAAUAAAAAAGGAAGACAAAGCGAGAGAGAGAGUAAAACUUACCAAGAGAAGAGGGGAUUGAGGGUUGCAUUAUGAAAAUAUGGAGAACAUGUUUUGGUAACUGAGAAAUUCAGCAUAUGGAGGUUUUGGAGUAAGGAGAUGAAGGAUUUGGUCAAGGUGGAAUUUUAAGAAAAAAGGAUAUUCAAUGUGGUAGGAAGGAAUGUUUAGCAUAUUAAGGAAGAAUGUGGGGAUUGGUAGGGGGGAAGAAGAACAACUGCAAUUUUUCUUUUUUCUUUUUUGGUAGAGAGAACACUUUGGCAAAUUUUUGGGAGGUUCAACGUGCAUGUACAAUAAGAUCUCUUGAAAGAGAACCUAUAGAAGAGGGCACAAAUUAUUUUUGGAGACAAUUAGUUGCAUCUUAAAAGGGAAUUGAAGGAAAAUAUUGAUGAUGAUAUUGAUUUUAUUAGUUUCCAAAAUAUUGAUAUUAGUUUCAUGAAUAUGGAUGUUUUAGUUUAGAUAGAUAUUGAUGUUUUAGUUUUGAAAAUAUUGAUGUUUGCUUAGAUGUUUUGAUUCAGAUAAAUUUUGACAUUUUAGUUUUGAUAAAUAUUGAAUUCUUGGAUGUGUUUGCAUGUUGGUUAUAUUUUUAAAUAAAAAUUCUCAGAACGUUAGUCAUCCGAGAAAAUAAAAAUAAUAUAAGAAAAAAGCAAAGUUGUUGCCUUUUUUUUUUUUUUUUUGGCCUGUAUUAAUUUUAUUUUUAAAUUUCAUUGGAUGAUUAGUUGGGGUAUAAUUCACAUGUUAUUUUUAUUGGAUGAUUAGUUUGGUUAUAAUUCACAUGGUGGUAUUAAUUUAAAAAUUCAUUGGAUGAUUAUUUUGAGCAUAAUUUUUGUAAAAUUUAUUGGAUGAUUGGUUUGUAUAAUUUUAAUGUUAGUAGAUUUUAAAAAUUUAUGGAAUGAUUGUUAGGUUAAAUUCCCAUGUUGAAUGUGUUUUAAAAAUUCGUUAAAAAAAUUAAAUACAAAUUCUUUUUUUAUUUAUUAAUUAAAUAAAAUUAAAUGAUUGGCUAUAAAUUAAAUAUUUACAAAUGAUUCCUCAGAAUGGGAAACGAAAGGCUAUAAAUGAUUGGCAGCUUAGAAACCUCAACAAGCCCAUCUCUAAAACCUUUCUAAAAUAAGAAAGUCAUCCAAGAAGAUAAAAAUAAUAUAAGAAAAAGGCAAAGUUGCUGCCUUUUUUUUUUUUUUUGGGCUGUAUUUAUUUAUUAAUUUAUUUUUGUCAAUCUCCUACAGAAGGUGGCAGAGAAAGGUAGAGAGGAGUUAUUAGAGUUACAGACGAAUAAUCAGUUUCAAUGCUAUUGUCUUCUUGUUGUAAGGGUAAAAUAAGAGGCAAACAAAUUAAUGAAUUCAUUAUCUUAGCUUUCUAUUGAAAUGCCUUCCAAGAAAUGUUUUGAAAGGUUUUGAGAGCUUUGAGUUUAGUCUAGAAUAAUGGUAGUAUAUUUCAGUGAAUAUGCAUUCUAAAAAAAUAUAUACCUUUAGCAUAUACCAAGAUAUCCAGUAACAACCAAUCAAAACAAAAUCACUCUUCUUGGAAAACAUGGAUGUUCGAGUACCCAGCUCUUUUCUUUAAUUGUGCUUUCUUCUUUUUGUGCCAACAUCUGCUCUCUCUCCAGCAUGCCAGUGUGCGUCCCAGCCAGCUCUUUUGUGCUUUAAAUGAAUUGAAUACUUGAUCUUAUUCUGCCAUUGUUUUGGCUCAAACCUAAGAAGUAUAUUUACCCUAACUUCUUUUCAUGUCUUCAACUUACUCAAAGGCUCACAAGUCCCAUUGGAAGUAAGCAGUUAAGGAUUUUUGAACUAAAAUUAUCAAACAUAGUCUAAUAGGUUAUACUCUUUUCAACAGUUUAAAUUGUUUUUGUUGAUAGAUUAUUUGAUUUUUCUCCUAGCUGGCCCAGUUGUUUAUUUCAAAGUGCAGUUUAGAACAACUUUCAACAUUUGAAUAAGGAAAAGAAAAUAUAUAGAUGAAUUGACUGAUUCAAAGGGCAUAUUACAGUCAGUCUGGUCACCUACAUUAUUAAUGAAAUUAUUGACGCAGAAUAACAGGGCGGAUGACUUCAAAUGGAUACACUGAGGUCUAUCUGUGCGUGUUAGGCAUUCAUGAACCUGUUUUCUUCGGUCAAAGAGCAGCCAUUACAAGGAAAAAACAUGGCGAAAAUUAAGUGAAGUAUGACUUCUGGAAGAUUUAUCACCUUCGUAAAUGAAGUGAGAGUUUUGACCGAAUUGAAGUAAAAAAAUUAAAUGCAACGGCCGGACCGGCUCCAACUAUUAAGAUUAUAAGUGCCACACAGAAAGAACAGAAAGAACGGUCCUAGUAAAUGAAGUAUAAAGACAUGUAAACAUAAAAUUGUCCAGGUAAAUGAAGACAUGCAAUGAAGAAGAAAUCUGUUGCAGACUACACAAAUCACAACCACAUAAAUCAACCACCCACCCAUUUUUCAAACUUCCAGCUCUCAUGCACUGGCACAGUUCGGUCCUUUUAAAGAUUAAAGUAGGCAUCUAAAAUUUUAUUGGUUUCAAGAAAUUUGGUGCACCAGGUUCCAAUGAAGAGAAGCUUUUUGUUCUAAAUAUUUAAUAGUAGAUUCCAUUCUUAGCUUACCAAUAUAUAUAAAUUACUCAGGACCUUAAGAAGUUGAUAUUACAAUUUAAACAAUGUUAUAUCAUGUGUAUUAGGAGAGAACCAAUCUCACCCACAAAUCAAGAACACUCAAUUGUCAAUUCUUAAGUUUAUCACUAAUAUAUGUAUACUUAUAUAGUUUAUGUAUCUUUUGGAAAGUCAUGUGUAUAUUUAAAAGAUUAUAGUGUACACCAAUAAUAAUAUACUUUCACCAUUCAUCUAUGCACCUCUUUCUAGUAUCAGAGCAAUUCUACCUCCCAUGAGUUCUUUUUUUCUCCUUCAUCCUAUGUUUCACCAUGGCUGAAGCAAGCUCAACAAGGCUAUCCCACCUUCCCUUACCUACCAAUACCACCGUGAACCUUAACAAUCUCAUUGCCAUCAACACAAUUAGCUAGCCAACUUCCACUCAAGCUCACCCUCACUAACUAUUACUCAUGGAAAACAUAGUUUGGUGCACUGCUCUUUAGAUAUGACUGUAGACCCUCAAUUUUGUCCCUUUAACACAUGUCUUUAAGUUCGUUUUCAGUGCUCCACAAUAGUUCCUUGGUGGCCCAGUACUAUUCAUUACUUACCUUUCUUGAGCCACCUCGAAGACUCUGGUUGAGGGAUUAUCUGACCCCUUAUUAUGACCCUUGGCAGUUUUGAUUUAGACUUAGGUUUUUCCUUCCUUUUUAGGAUAGCAUUUAGGUGCACUUUUAGGAUAGCACACUUAGGCAUUGUCCUAAACAUCCUAGUCUCACUUAGACACUUUUUUUUUUAGACUCACUCAGGUUCGCUAGGUCCACCUAAGCAUCCCAGCCCAUUUGCAUUUUUAAUGCUUGCAUGUACUUGAUCUCUUAUUUAUUUAUUAUUAUUUGGUUAGUUAUUUGUUUUUAUUUAUUUAUUUUAUAGAAUAUUGCAUGAGAUUGAUGAUUAAUUGUGUAAAUUGAUGUCUUAAUUAUUUUUGUGUACCUAUGAUAGACAUAAUGUUUUUAAUUGCAUAAUUUUAAAUUAGUUUUAAUUUUCAAUUUCAUGACCUUUACUAAUUUUAAUUCUUAUUUUUAUUUUGGCAUGAGAUUCGAAUGCACACAUUGGAGAAGAUCCUUGAUGUACACGGCUGCAUAUAUGUGGGAAGAUUCUAUGCAACAUGGAAAGGAGAUUUAAAAUGUUAAAGAAAGGAAAGCAGAUCACUUAUGAAGGAUGGAAAGAAGAUUUUUCUUUUAUUUAUUUUUUUUUUUCUAAAAAAGGGGCUGCCAUUUAUUGGGAAGGAGGAUCACCAAAAUUUUAAAGAAAGGAAAGUAGCUGCCCAUAGAAUAAUAUAUGGAAACUUCCAUACAAAAGGGGGGAUUCUUGGAUGGUCAGAGGGGGAAAGGAGCACGUAUUGGAGGAUGGGAGAAUUCUGAAGGGAGGAGAGAGGAACGUGUAUUGGGAACGCAGGGAGAUACAUAGAAAGCAAGGAGGUUAGGCUAUGAUUUUGAGAGGGCGGGCUGCUGUUUUCAAAGGGAUCAGCCCGUGGAUUUUGAGAGUGAGAGAUUAGUCCGCGGAUUUUUAGAGUGGAGGAUCAGUCCGUUUCAGAGUAGAGGACUGGCUGCUAUUUUUUUAAGAGAUCAGUCUAUGGAUUUUCAGGAUGGUGGACCAAUUCGUUUUAGAGGAGAGGACGGUCUGCUUUUUUUUUAAAAAAGAUCAGUUCGUGGAUUUUGAGAGUGGGAGAUCACUCCGUGAAUUUUUAGAGUGGGGGAUCAGUCCGUUUCAGAGGAGAGGGCAGGCUGCUAUUUUUUUUUAAGAGAUCAGUCCAUGUAUUUUCAGGGUGGAGGAUCAGUCUGUUUCAAAGGAAAGGGCGGGCUGCUAUUUUUUUAAGAGAUCAGUCCAUGGAAUUUAAGAGUGGACGAUUAGUCCAUUUCAGAUGAGAAGGUGGGCUGUUAUUUUUUUUAGAGAUCAGUUCGUGGAUUUUCGAAGUGGAAUUUGGAGGAUCCUCACGCAGCCAUAGAAGGAGUGGGCUGCCACAGAAAUAAAGGGAGAAGAACAGGAAAAAGGAGAGAGAUCAAUCCAUGUUUCAAAGAGAUUAGAGGCUGCUGUUUGGGCAAAGAGCAGUCCGUGUUUUGAAAUGAUUUUGGGGGCUGCUAUUUGGAGGGAUCAAUCCGUGUUUUGAAAGGAAGGGGGCAGCAGCGGCACGAAGGAGAAUUCGGGUGAAAGGAGAAGGAUGGAUUUUCUGGAAUGUGAGAGGGUGCAGCCGCAACACUUUGUGCGAUACCCGAGCAUCUCCGACAACAUCUUAUGGCUGUUGGAGAUUCGCACCAGCUUGUUAAUCCCGCCACCUAAACACCACAGCCGCACCGGAUUUUCAAAGGGAAUUCAUAUCCACGCAGCACUUUGAGGAUUUGCAGCACAUAGGUAUCCACCACACCAUGCAUCCUUGGAAUUUUUUUUUAAUUAAAAAGUCCUACUAGUGGAAAGUAGUCUUCACAUUUUGAAAAGGUAUUUAAAGAAUUUGCUGUGCAAGGGUAUCCACCACACUAUGCAUCAUUGGAAUUGUUUUUUUGUUGUUUUUAUUAAAAAAAAUCCUACUAGUGGAAAAUGACCUUCACGUGUUAAAAAAAAGUAAACUAAUUCAUCCCAUUUCAAUUUUGCUCCAUGAAACAUUCAAUUCAAUUCAUAGUUGUUUAGAAUUUUGGUUAUUUAGUUUAAUUUAUUCCAAUGUCAAUAUAUUCAUGCUAUCAAGUUGUUAAGUUUAGCUUUAAAUUAUUCCUAUUUGGCCUAUGCAUUUUCAAGGUUUAUUUUAUUAGAAAUUCAUGGUUAAUUUAGAUGUUAUUUAUUUAUUUAUUUUUAAUUUUUCUUAUCUAAAUAAAUUAAUUAUUACUGAUUCAUUAUUCUAGUUUGAAGAUUAUGAUUUUUGUUUAAUAUAGUUACAAUUUAUUAUUCUUAGUUUGACAAAUUAAUUUUUUAGUAUUGGUUUGGGCAAUUUUUGUUAAUAAUGGAAAAGUUAAGAUUUUUUAGAGUUUAGGUAAUUUGUUAUGAUAGGUAAAAAUUUAGAAUUUUGAUUAGCAUUAUUUUGGUUCUCAAUUAGGAAAUUCAUAAUUUCUUUUAGUUUAGUUUUAAUCUAUCUUUUAGUUUAGAUGUUAUUAAAAUUCAGUUCAUUAGUUCAAUUGAUUCCAUGUCACAUCUUUUCGUAUCUAAAGGUUGUUAAAUUUAAUUCAUGAUUCAUUCUUUUAGUUUAUUAAUUUUAGAAUUUAAGUUGGUUAAUUUAUUUCAUUCCGCAUUGAUAUAUUCAUGUUUUAAAAUAAAUAAAGAAAAAAAAUUAUUUUAGUUUUGAUUGAUCCUACUUUAGUUGAUAUUCUUUAGAGUUUUAAUUAAUUCGAUUGGUUUCAUAUUGUUUAGUUUAUGUUAAAAUUUUUCAAUUCCAUUUUGCUAUUAAUUCUAUGCUUUCAAAUUGUAGGCUAUUAGUUUAAUCUAUCCCCAUGUUGCCAUUUUGCGUUUAAAAAUAGUUCAUUUUCGUUUUUGAUUAAUUUUAUUUAUUUUAUGUGUUUGUCUUUUUUUUUAUUACUUUCUUAUUUUUUAUUAUUAUUUUUUUUAUUUUUUUAUUUUUUAUUACUCAUUUGUUUAGUUAGUCGAUUAAAUUUAUGACUCCAAAUUGUCAAUAUUAGUUGAUAUGUAUCGUUUGUACUAUUUUAAAGGUCACAUAAUAUUUAGUGCUUGAUUAAGUUUAUCUUAAGAUUAAAUGUUGUUAAAGUUUCAAUGCUUGUAAGAUCUAAGGUUUCAGUUUAUCACUUUGGUCAUCCUUUGUCAAAUUCAAUUUUUAGAGGCUAUCGGAAAAUAGUGAAGAUUAGCCUCCAUUCUCACCUUCAAUUUUCUUGGUUGUCAAAAAUUCUACUUUGUGAUUUUGUUCUCUUUUGUUUUGCUUGGUAUUUUGAUUCAUACACUUUAUUGCUUUCAAAUUAAUUUCUUUUUAUUUUUAAAAUACAACACUAUUCUCAAAAUCUCAUUUUCCUUAAAAAUUCAUUUAGAGUUCUUAGAAUCAAAAUCUCAUUUUUUUAAAAAUAAUGUGCAACCAUGUUUUGAUCGGUUCACAUCUUUCAAAUAAAAUUACAGUUUUGAAUAAAACACGAAUCAAAGCUUGUGGUCCCAAAUAAAUGGGAUAAUUCUAGGCUAAAUUCGUGUAUAUCAAUUGGGGAAUUGGUGAAACCCCUACAUAAGAAAAUCUUUUCAAAAAUUAUUUUCGUUGCCACUUUUGUCACUUGUUGAAAUUAUGUCUAUCUUUUUAUUAGAAAUUGUAUACAAGAUGAGUGUGAUAAUUAUCGUUUUCAUAUACUUUGAUAAUUUCUGCUAUGCUAAUUAGAUAACGAGCAUGCUAGGCUUUCUAUAUUUUAUUAUUUAUCAUCUAACCCCUUACAACUUGAGGAAGCAUGUUACAAAUUAUCUAUGCUAUCCAGGUAUGUCUUCUAUCACCUACUUUCUGAAUUUUGUGAACAUGCUUGUCAUUGUGAAAUAAUACUUAUGUCUAAUAAUGCUCGAAUAUUCUGAUAUACAUGUUUCAUUGCUUGAUUAUUUCUGAUAAAAUACAUGUUGGAUGAUAUAUUGUUUAAAUUAACCAUCGAUGUUUUAUGAUAGCGCUUGAGAAGCCGUCCAGGUAUGCACCCUAACUCUCUUUUAUGGAAAUCUGAUCCUAUUUGGCAUGUUAUUUUUCGAAAUCACCUUAGUCUGUUUAGGUAUCCCCAAUUAAUCAAUUAAUUACCAUUUUACCCCCAACUUUGUUAGUAGAGACCUUUUUAGGGCUUAGAGGGGUGCUACCUCCUAGAGGUACCUUCCCAAUAAGUAACCUGAUCCCCAGACCUAGACUCGGGUUUCUCAAAGACACGCUUUUCCAAAAAUUAUGGAGUCAUUUUUUUUAGGGUUUUAUUUCUUGUUUUAUUUUCCCUUUAAAAAAAAAAUAAAAUAAGUGGCGACUCCAACUGUUUUUCAAAAAAUCAAUUUUUCACAAAAAUAAUAAAAAGCGAGUCUCGCCAAUCGAGUGGGGACGCACGUGAAAAAUGCGGGUCCACAAUGACCUACUUGGCUACAUUGACGGAACAAAGCCAGGACAAACAAAUCUCAAUCCUAACUAUACUUUUUGGACAAGUAGGACAAACUUCUUCUUCUAGGAAUCAUCGGCUCUCUUAUUGGAUUUUAAGGGAAUGGAAACAAAGACUAUCCCAAAAGACACAAACAAAUAACAGAAUGAAUAAAAAGAAAAAAUUAUCGGCUGAGGUGUGACAAACACUAUCCUUGAAAUAGAUCCACCCUCCUCGAAGACAAACUCGGUGCACUAGGGUACCAAUGGUCUACUUCCAGGAUUCAACAGCUAGAUCUCGCCUUGGGUGCACUCUGAAAUCGAGAUGUAUACAACUUGAAUUUUUUAAUAAAUUCCUCCAAUUAGAUGUAUGAAAAUACUCCCUGAAAAACUCUUCAAAAAAAUUCUCUAAAAAAUUUUGUAUCCAAAGUAUAGAGAGGGGUGACCUGCUUUUUUAGGCCACUAACACAAUCUCAAUGGGAAUCUACUUAUAAUUAGAAGAUGACACAAAGUGGAAGGUGAUUCUACUUAUAAAAGGAAUGAGAUUCCACUAGCACAAUUCCAAUAGGACUCUUCCCAAAAAUAUAACACUAAUAGAAUAAAAUAAAAUAUAAAAAAAUAAAAAAAUAAUUCUCAAUAGGACACUUCCCAAAAAUUUAAGACUCAUAGAAUAAAAUAAAAUAAAAUAAAGUUAAUUUCCAAAAAUAAAAAUAGAAAUUAUUUACACUCAUCCUAUAUCUCUCAGCCACAAAGUCAUACUUGUGGUUCAUUGAUGCAAAACUUCCACUAAAGCUUGGCAUCAUUUUUCAAAGCUCUAUGUCAAUCCCUCAUUCUCCAGAACCAUGGGAUUGGUAGAGCAACUCAUUCUUCUCAACCAUGGCUCUUAACCAAUAGUUAACUACCUUGCAACAGUCCAUGAUAUUAUUGAUGAAUUGGACCUUCUUAGAGAAGCCAUUCCAAACCAAUAACUCAUCACUUACGUAUGCAAACAUGUCACCCCUGAAUUCAAUGAAUUGUUGUUGUUAUAUGCACACAAGAUACUAUGAUCACAUUUGAUGAGCUGAAUGAAAAAUUAGUGGAAUAUGAUGCCUUCCUCAUGUAGGAAGAGCUUUGUUCCACUAGCACUCUUGGUACCACUAAAGUCAACAAUACACAAUUUUCAUCUUCCCAUAGUGACAAAAACGCUAGCCAAAAAUAUUUCCCUAGUAGGAAAGGAUACCAAGGCUAACAUCCUCCUCAUUUUGGGAAUCAACACCCCAACAAGAACGCCACUUUGAUUUGCCAAUUCUGUGAGAAGAAAGGUCAUACUACUUGCUAGUGUUACAUGGCUAAGAAAUUGUUCCUUUCAUCCACACUUACUACUAGUCCAAUUAUCCCCACAAACAACUUCUUAACCAAUUGGCUCGCAGAUAUCAGUGCCUCACAUCAAGUUACAUCUAAUCUUAACAACUUGUCUCUCUGCUAACCAAUGAAUCUAGUCAUUAAUAGUUUUCACAUUUCCUAUACUUGGAGGGUUGUUCCAAGAUUAAAUAAAGUUUUUUCCCAUGCUAAUCUUAAUAUAGUGAUUCAUGCCCAGUCGGGUGUUUAUCAAAACAUUUAUAAAACCUACAACACCUUAUACUAAGGUAGCAAAGACAAAGCUACUAUAGUAUAGUGGCUCUAGGAUUGUCCACAGGGAUGGGUUUUCUUUGUACACUUAACAUUAAUGAAAGGAGAAAUGGUGAUUUCCUUUUUGGAAGUUAGCUUUUAAAUGAAAAUAAGAUUGAUUGGAAGGGUUGAUUUUAAGUUAAGCAAACAUAAACAACUGAAAUUACUAUAAAGAGAAAGUCUCUUGGAGCUAUAGGUUACUAGGAUCAGGUUCCUGUUGCAAAGUGGGAAAUUACGGAUCUUCUCCUCGCAUUGGGGAUAAUAACAUAAAGGAUGGUUAUCUCCCGAACCGGAUUUGUAUUUAGCAAAUAAGUUUUGAUCCAAAGGAUUCUUGAAAAAUGGUAGUUGCUUCCCAUUAAUGGCUUCAAACACUAAAGACCCUCACCUUGAACCACCUUCCAAUGGCUCGUACUUGAUAACUAAUGGACAUCCAUGGAUCUAGCAAUAAGCAUCCAUAGAAUCCUAAAAGCUUACCAAGUAUUGGCCAUUCAAGGUGAUUCUAAGGGAUCAAAGCUAAAACUUGAAAUACAAACCAUUAACGAUACACAACUACCUUCAUUUUUAGCAAGGAAAACUCCCACCUUUACAUAUGGGUCCUUUACCUAGCUUCCAUCACUCCAAGAAACGUGAAACUUAGCCACUCAUCCUCUGAGAAAUCAUCCUCUGAGGGUGUUUGGCUAGAGAGAAAGUGAAGAGAAAAUGAGAAGGAAAGGUAGAGAAAAACUCGUCUUUACAAAAUAUCUAAAACAUAAUAUCUCCCAUCCUUUGAGAGGUUUUCCAACCCCUAUUUAUAGAUCCUAAACAAACCCUAAUGUCAUUUAUCUAUUACAAAAAGAGAAAAGGAAAAAAUUACAAUUCUGGAGAUUUUUCCCGAAGGUCGGUGUGCAUAAAGUGAUUUUUGCACACCCUACAAAAAUUUGGCACACCUUGCGAAAAUUUGGCACACCUUGCGAAUUUGAUGAUUUUGCCUUGCAAAAUGCUCUGUUUCCCUCCAUCUUACUACUGAUAGCUUUGCCAACCCCUUUCCAAGUUUGCCAAGGGGUUUUGAAGUGCUCCAAGGCUCGGAUUCUUCAUGUGAUUGAUCUUCAACUUACCUUGCCAUAGCUUGCACAAAACUCUCCCUCAAUCUUGGCCUGUUUUGGUGAUAAAAAAGCUACCAAAAACACUAAAACUUACCAGAAAUUGGUUAGUAACAUUCGCUAGGUCCUUACAUGCCAAUUGGGAUAAAAAGGUCUAACUACUACUCAAAAGUGCUUAGUACAAUUAAGUUUAAGCUUAUAAAAAUGCACUUUUUGAGUAGUAAUCACUCCCCCCAACUGACACAUUGCUAGUCCCUUAGCAAUGAAGGAGAGAAAAAAAAAUGCAUCUCUCAUGGAAAAUCAAAGAUAUAAAACCCAACCUUCAACAAGAGUUAUUAAAUCACUUACCUAAUCACAAAAUACAAAGAGUGGGCAUUAUGCAAAUUUAAGCAUCAAAAGAAUUUCCACUCCCAAAGAUCCAACUCUUAAUCUUCCACAAGAAUCUAAGUGUUAAGGUGAUUAGUUUCCAAUUAUAGUAUGCUAAACUAUACUCUCACUCCCCCUAACUUAGUUCUUUCUCAAACUUGGCAAACUGACCAACAUCCAAUAGGUUAAGAACGCACCUCUUUUAUUUUACAAUUCUUUUAUUUGCUCAACUUCACCCAUUCACCCUUGUAAUGAGCAUUAAGGUCUAUGACUCCCAACCAAUUAAGGUUUAGGGCACCAGGCUUUAAAGACUUUCGCCAUAUACCCCUAGGACCUUGCUCGGGUUUCAAGGCAAGCACAACAUUUUUUUAUUUUUUUUCUGAAGGCUCAUUGGCCUUCUAUAAGGUGUCCCAACACUAUUAAAAUGAGGUCAAAGGUACCAAGUCAAAAUUUUCCUAAGUUCAAGGGGUGAGAUAAUUUUUCAUCUUAUAAUUGGAACCUAAUGUACACAGUGUGUGGUAAGAUUAAAGUGGAAGAAACAAGGUUGAAUUCAAUAGGAGCUUCAAUAAUUCAUCAACCUCAAUAAACACAAUACAAACUUUAAGACUUAAGCAAAAAGGCAAGAACUCAACUUCUCUCAUUUCAUUUUGAGAAUUUUUCCUUGACAACCAUGGAGAGUAGAGUAAUUUUAAAAAAAAAAUUAAACAAGAGGUAACUAAGAACAAAAUAUCCUAGCAAUAUUUACAAUACUUACUUCCUCAACUCUCCCCCCAAUCAAGAUGAACAUUGUCCUCAAUGUUUCAAUUGCAAGUGAAAAUAAACGGAGGAGGUGAUACCUUUUGAGGCAAAUUUUUCAUAGUCAUGCAAACGUUUCGCAAAAGGGAGCGAAAAUGACUAGAGAAGUGAGAAAUGAAGUUGGGAUGUAUGCUAUAAAAAAAAAAAUGUACUUUUUUUUUUUGUAGAGAAAAAUGAGGGGUGUAGAUUGUUCGCAAAGUGGAAUUUUCAUAAAAUAGAAUUUUCGCAAAAUGGAAUUUUCGUAAAGUGGGAUUUUCGUAAAGUGGGAUUUUCGUAAAAUGGAAUUUUCGCAAAAUGGAAUUUUCGCAAAGUGGAAUUUUUGCAAAAUGGGGUUUUCGCAAAGUGGGGUUUUCAAAACUUGAUUCGCAAGGUGAACUUUGAGUUUGCAAACCCUAUGGAAAUUCACAUUUGAAGACCGAGAGUUGUAGUUUUCAAAAAUGAUCACAAAGGGUUUUCGCAGAGGAUUCGCAUACCCUGUGUUUUUUCACAUAGGGUGCGAAGUUAAAGACCGAGAGCUUGAAUUUUUCAAAAAUCAUCAGGAGGAUUUCGCAGAGGGUGUGAAAUUUUCGCAUGCUCUGCGAAAUGGCAGUAGCUCACAUAAUGUAAAGAGCACUUUUCGCACAACAUGCGAAAAUUUCGCAGGGAGGUAUGCGAAAUGCUCUGCUUCAAUUUUUUCCUCAGUUUUUCCUCUGCCGACGAAUCCUUAAGUGCCCUCCCCUACAAGUGAUUGAUUACUACUCAAAAAGGGCUAUUUGAUAGCUUGUAAUUAACUCUUUUAAACACUUUUGAGUAGUAAUUAUUGCCCUUUAACCCAAUUAACAUAUUAAGGACCUUUGCAAUCACUUCUAAUCACUUUGUGUAAGUUUUGGUGUUUUUGUUAGUAAUUUGAUCACCAAAGCAAUCCAAGAAGGAGGAGAAGUAAAGAGAGAAUCUACCUUGAAGCAUUCUUGAUGACAGUCAUUUCAGCCACUUUUGGAGUACUUCCUAAAGUCCAAUUUAUGCAUGCUUUAUGUCGUUUCGAAGAUCGGGAAGUCAACAAUCCAAUGCUUCAAACGGUUUGCAAAUCAGAGUUGAAAUGAAGAAGUUAGAGCCAAUGGAAGCAGAUCACUCCAAGCUGAAGGCCAAUUUCGCAGGGCUGCGAAAUCAGCCUUCGGCUGCGAAAUGAUUUCGCAGCCAUCUUGUUCGUCUACGAAAUUUCGCAGCCAUUUUGUGCGCCUGCGAAAUUCUCCUGAGUGCUUCCAGUUAUUUGCGACCAUCGUUUUUUGUUAUUUUGCCUCAGAUAUUUGUUGUCUAAAUUCCAAUUCUCUCCUUGUAAUCCACCAAUUAGAUGAUUCCUUAGUUGUUGAGCAAGGAUGCAGGGGUAAACAACCUGAUAUGUAUUGUUUUGUAUUUUUCACUUUAAAACAUCGGGGAACUUUCCCCAGGAGAACGGAUGUAAAUUUUACACUUAGCUAAAUACGAAGUAUCUUUUGCUUUCUUUUUCUCUCUACUAUUCCCUAUUUUCUCAGUAGCCAAACAUCCUUGGAGGAUGAAAUCCCCAAGGAUGAGAGGCUAAAACUUUUUAGUUUCUUGAAGUAAUGGAUGCCAUGUGAAGCUCCCGUGUCAGGAUGGAGAUUUCCAAGCCAUGAAUGUAAGUAGUUGAGCAUCAUAAAUGUUUUCAUUCAAAGUAAAGCUUUUAAUCCCUCUGACUUGCUUUGAAUGGCCAAUACUUGAUAACCUUUUGGUCUCAGUGGAUUCUUAUUGUUAGAUCCACUGACGUUCAUUAGUUAUCUCCUACGAGCCAUUGUAUUGCAAGUCGAGGAGAUGACCUAUAUCAUUAAAAGAGCAUUUAUGAGGUUCAGCUACCCUUUUUGUAAGUUUUGAAGGACUAAAACUCAGUUGUUAAACACAUACCGGUUCGGGAAGUAAGCAUCACCUUAGUUGCUUCCCCAACUCGAGGUGAAAAGUUCCAAAAUCUCCAUUUUUACACAUUGAGUUAAGCAUGGCUAUCCAAAGCUUUGAGAAACUUCUUUUUCCAUCUUUUAACCUAUUUGCAUGUUAGUUUAGUUUAAAACACUUUCAUCUUUUUAUGUUUUCAUCUUAACCUAAUUUUUAUUAAGAAAAGUUCACUCCAUCCUCCGAACUUCAUCAGUUAAAGUAAAAACCCUUCCCAGUGUUCGAUCCUAGAGCCACUAUGCUAUAGUAGCUUUGCUACUUUAGUGUAAGGACGUUAGGUAUAAAUUUUGUUGAUACCCUUACAUGCCAAGCUACCAAGAGUCGGGUUAUCAGUGAUCAUCAAAAACCUAAAUUAAAUCAAACUAAAAUGGAAUUCAAGCAAGAAAAUGAAAUAAAAACAAAUACAAAUACAAGAAAAAACAUGAAAUCAAAAACAAAAAACAAAAAUGGAUGAACUUAAUAAUUUUCAGAAAGAUUAAGUCCAUCCAGGAUCUAAUUUUUCAAGCCUGAGAGGGAUCAAGGAGGAUGAAUUCCUCCUUGUCUCGGGAAAAAUGCUCCAGAAAGGGCUUGAGACGAUGAAAGUUCGAUUGGUGUUGGCGUUGAGUAGCUCCACUACUCUAUUCGAAUACACUUGGUGGAUUGUGAAAGGACCUAACCACCUUGAUUUCAACUUGCCCGGAAAGAUAUGGAGCUUAGAGUCAUAAAGCAAGACUUUUUGUCCCUUUGAAAAGUUCUUUUGGGUCACCAACUGAUCAUGUCAUCUCUUCAACCUCUCUUUUGCAAUUUUGAAUUGAGGUAAGCAUCAUUUCGCAGUUCCUCCAACUCAUUGAGGUCUAAGAAUCUCUUCAACCCAACUUUGCUCAAAUCCAUGUUGAGUUUCUUGAUUGCCCACCAAGCCUUGUAUUCUAAUUCCACAGGGAGAUGGCAUGCUUUGCCAUAGACUAAGCGAUAAGGGGACAUCCCAAGAAUGGUCUUGUAAGCUGUUCUAUAAGCCCAUAGUGAAUCAAGGAGUUUGAUAGACCAAUAUGUUUUGUUCACAUUCACUACCUUUAUCAAUAUGUUCUUGAUCUCCCAGUUUUCCAACUCAACUUGCCCGCUAGUUUGAGGAUGGUAAGGCGUAGCUACCUUAUACUUCACCCCGUACUUGGCUAGAAGAGUUUCAAAAGGCUUGUUACAAAAAAUGAGUACCCUCAUCACUGAUUAUGGCUUUAGGCACUCCAAAUCUUGAGAAAAUGUUUUCCUUCAAGAACUUGAUAACCACCCUAUGGUCAUUGUGUUUGCAUGGAAUUGCUUCAACCCACUUAGAAACAUAAUUGAAUCUCACCAAGAUGUAGGAGUAGCCAAAUGACAUAGGAAAAGGUUCCAUGAAGUCAAUGCCCCAAACAUCAAAAAGAUCAACUAUCAGAAUAGGGUUCAAAGGCAUCAUAUUCCUUUGGGUCAACUUCCCAAGCCUUUAACAUCGAUCACAACCCUUGCACAUGGCAUGGGCAUCCUUGAAAAGUGAGGGCCAACAGAAACCCGAUUGCAAGACCCUCAUAGCUGUCUUUUGAGAAGCAAAGUGACCUCCACAAGCAUUCUCAUGGCAAUGAGAGAGAAUCCCCUGUUGCUCUUGUUCAGGAACACACUUUCUUAUUAUUUGAUCCAAAAAAUACUUGAAUAGAAAUGAUUCUUCCCAAUAGUAGGCAUGGAUCUUUACAAAGAAAUGUUUUCUAUCUUGUGUUUUCCACUCACUUGGAACUUCUCCAGUAACUAGGUAGUUUGCAAUAUGAGCAUACCACGGAGUUACUUCCACCAACAUGAGAGAUUCCUCUGGGAAGUCAUCAUUGAUGGGCAAACCAUGGGAAUUAUGUGCAAUUGCAAGCCUUGAAAGGUGGUCAGCUACCACAUUUUCUACUCCCUUCUUGUCUUUGAUUUGAAGAUUGAUCUCUUGAAGCAAGAGGGUUGAUUCCGUGCCCAACUGGUGUACCUUGAUUUCCGUCCUCUGAUGGGAGUAAUCAACAAAAUUUAUAACCUACUGCACCAUGUACUAGGAUAGCCUCGGCUAGCAUAGCAUAGUAGCUCUAAGAUUGUUCACUGGGAAGGGUUUUCAAUUAUAAAUGAUACUAAUUCAAAGUGAAUUGGUGCCUUUUCAUUUCAAGGUUAGCUUUAAAAGAAAACAUAAACUUGGGUUGGAAAAGGUUUGGUUUUAAGCUAACUAAAAAGAAAGUAAUGGGAAUUACUUAUAAAGAAAAGCGUUUCUUGGAGUUUUAGGAUCACCGGGGUCAGGCUCCUUAUACAAAAAAAAAGUUUUGGUCACUUUGAUUCUUUUCCUCGAAUUGGAGAAUUAACAUAUAGUUCAUUCUCCAACCGGUGUUGUACAGAUGCAGCCCAUUUAUGGAUUUCAGCAUUAAACCCCUCUCACUGAUGCAUCUCGCAAUGUCUUAUGCCUCCCACCUAGCAUUUGCCAUUCAAGGUGAUCAUUAACCUUGGACUUCCCUUCUCAAGCUCGCAAGAGGUAACUAAUGGAUGUCUCCUUAGAGUCCAAAAGCUUACCAAGUGUUGGCAAUUCUAGAAAAUCCUACCUUCAAGUCACCUCCCAAAGGCUUGCAAGAGAUAAACUAGUGAAUCUCCAUGGACGGAGAUCACUUGCCUUACCAAGUGUUGGCCCAGGUGAAUUGAAGGCAUUUUAAGUUAACUAAAAAGAUAAAAACCAUUAACGGGUUACAUUUCCUCUUCAUUUACAACUGAAACCACAAAACUCUAAAUUCAUGCAUUUGGAAACUUACCCAGCUACCUUAGUCCAAGAGACACAAAGUCUAGCCACUCAUUCUUUGAGGAAACAUCCUCAGAGCUUGUUUGGCUAGUAAGAAAAAUACAAUCAAAAUGAGAAGGUAAGGCAGAGCAAAGCUCUGUAUUUUACUUCCUUGAAAAACUAUACAAAAAGUUGGUUUUUCUCUGAGAACAGGCUCCCGAGAUAUCACUGAUAUGAAAAUUACAAUAAUAAUAUAUACAUGGCUAUUCACCCUUUUUGUCUUUCUUAGCAACUAAGGAAUCCUAUAAUUGGUGGGUUACAAGGAGAAAAUGGGGAUUUGGACAUCAAAUAUCUGAAGCAAAAUAUCCAAAAGUGUCGAUCACAAAUAUCUGGAAGCACUCAAGAGAAUUUCGCAGACGUACAAGAUGGCUGAGAAAUUUCGCAGCCAAAGGCUGAUUUCGUAGAGGCUUUCCUUAGGCUGCGAAAUUGGCCUUCAGCUUGGUGUGAUCGGCUUCCAAUGGUUCUAACUUCUUCAUUUCAACUCUGAUUCAUGUACCAUUUAAAGCUUUGGAUUGCUGACUUCCCGAGCUUCGAAACGACAUAUGGUGUAUAUCAAAUGGACUCUAGAAAGUGCUUCAAAAGUGUCAAAUAGUUGAUGUCCUCUUGCAUUAUUCAUGUUACUUUCAUCCUUGCAUUCUUGAUUUGUUUUUGGCAAAGGAUUACAAAGCUUCAAAGCUUGAAUUCUUCAUGUUAAUGAGCUUCCAAUUGCUUUGCCAUGGAUUCCAUAGAACUCUCCUUAGUCUUGGAUUGCUUUGGUGAUCAAAAUACUAUCAAAAACACCAAAACUUAAACUUUUUGAUUAGAAAUGAUUGCAAAGGUACUUAAUAUGUUAAUUGAGUUAAAAGGUAAUAACUACUACUCAAAAGUGUUUAAAAGAGUUAAUUACAAGCUAUCAAUUAGUACUUUUUGAGUAGUAAUCACUCCCCCCAACUGACAUAUUGCUAGUCCCUUAGCAAAAAAUGAGAGAAAAAGAAAAUUAAAAAGUAAAAAAAAUACUAUAAUUUACAACGUCAUGCUGAUCACUUCAAAAAAUUUUAAGUGGCAUGAUGAUCAAGCUCUCUCAUGGAACAUUAAAGAAAUGAAACUCAAAUUUCAGCAAGAGUUAUCACGUAUGUUUUCUAAUCAUAAUUCCAACAAGAGAAGGCAUUAUGCAAAUUGAAGCUUUAAAAUCAUUUCCAUUUCCAAAUGACCAACCCUUACUCUUCCACUAAAAUCUAAGUGUUACUUGAUAGUUUCCGAAUAUAGUAUGCUAAACUAAUCUCUCUCCCCAAUCUAGUUCUUUUUCAACACUUAGCAAACUGACCAAAUUCAAUAGGCUAAGAACACACCCUUUUAUUUAUUUAUUUAUUUUUAUUUUUUUUUUCAGCGUAGGAGUACAAGGCUUGAAGGUAUUCUUUUUCUAAAUUGUCCAUGUAGCGGGGGUCCAUCGAUGACUCCCAACCAAUUAAGGUUUAGGGCAUCAAGCUUUAAGGAUCUUUCAACCACUAACUCCUCGAAUUUUACCUCGAACUUUUGAGAGUGAAUUUUUAAUACCCAAGCACCUACAGUAUGUUAAACUCCACCUAUUCACCCUUGUAACGAGCAUUGAGGUCGGUGACUCCCAACCAAUUAAGGCUUAGGGCACCAGGUUUUAAAGAUUUUCACCAUAUACCCCUCAGACCUUGCUCGGGUUUCAAGGCAAGCAAACAUUUUCUUUUAAAGGCUCAUUGGCCUUUCAUAAGGUGUCUCAACACUAUUAAAUAAGGUAAAAAAUACCAAGUCUAAAUUUUCCUAAGUCAAGAGGGAAAUAGUUUUUCAUCUUAUAGUCGAAAUCUAUUGUGCACAGUGUGUGAAUAGCUUAAAGUGGAAGAACUAAGGUUGAAUUCAAUAGAAGUUCAACAAUUCAUCAACUUUAAUAAGCAUAAUACAAACUCUAAGUCAAGUAAACAAAAAUUCGAUUUCUCUUAUGUUAAUUUGAGAAUUUUUCUUUAAUAACCAUGGAGAAUAGAAUAAAAACUUUAAAAAUUUAAAAUUAAGCAAAAAGCAACUAAAUUAUCAAAAUAACUUAGCAUUAAUCACAAAACUUCCUUCCUCAACUCUCCCCUCAACCAAGCUGAACAUUGUCCUCAAUGUGAGAAAAGCGAUUGAACAGUAGGGAGGAAGUGGUGCCUCCUUAGUGGUAUGAAGUUCGGGUAGAAUAGGAGAACCCACAUGUUUCAUAAAACAACAAAAGAUAUCAGUAGAGGAAUUAAAAUAAUGCUAAAAAUGCUAACAAAUUGAUAGACUUGUAUUACUUGAAGAAAGUACAAGAUGGCUAACAAGUAAUACAACCAAUCCCAAUAUAUAAUAUCAAAAGCAUGGGAGUACAAUUUCUAUUUUAGUAAAAAAAAAAAAUACAUAAAGAAAAUACAUAAAGUAAAGUAUGUAAAUGAUCAGAUAGGGGGAGGGUGAUGAUGGCUCAGGUGGAUGUCUCUACAUCUCCUGCAGUCGGCGGCUCAGUAUAGGGCUCUGUGGGCUCUGAAAUGAUAGGAUUGGGGUACUCAGAAGCUGAUGGAAUACCCAGAUAGUGCUGAAUCUGCCUCAUAAUGGCAGUAUGCUGAGUCUGGGUGGCCAAAAUCUGCUCCUGAUGGGCACGAAAAGCUACCAUCUCCUAAGUAAGGAUGUUUUGAGAUGUGGUCAAUGUCUACAAAGUGUGACAAAGACCUCUAUACUCGGACAUGGAUAUAGCAAUCCUAGGCUCAGAUGACGAAGUGGGCUCUGAUGUAGAUGGUAUAACAGGAGGAGUCUGUGGUGUGGCAAGAGGAGCAGAGGGUGCAACCUUAGGUAUAGGCUCCUCAGGUUGUGGAAUGUCUGGAUGUUCUGCUCCAGCUGGGGAUCCAGGCUCUGCACUAUAUGCUGUCAUAUUUGACCAUUUAUCAAGAGUGAAUAUCUCUCGGCAAAUGCGUUUAUGCUCAUGGUGAGGCUCAGAUGGAUAGCCCAAAUGCUUGAAAAUCUGGCAAAGCAAUCUCGGGAAAAGAAGUGGAAUAGCAUGUGCUUGGAGCAGCUUCUUCUUGUGAACCUUCUCUUCAAAGUAGAGAAGAACAGCCAUAAUCAGAUGAUGAGGGCCAAAGAAGAAUCCCUCAGAUAUCCUAAACAGGGUCUCCAGCAAAACUCCUCUCCUCUGCACCCAAUGCUGAAGUGGAUAAAUGUUAUGGCGCAGGAGUGCAUCGAUGAAGAACAUGCUGGGAGGGAGCUCCUUCCUCAACAGAUACUGAUGUGAGGAUGCUCCUCUGGAUAGGAUAUGAACUAUGUCACUCUGAGCCGGAUGAGUCCAUACUUGAAAAUCCUCUGGAUGGGCUGGCUCGUAUGGAAUAUGCAGUGCCUGUGCUAUAUGUCGAGCUCUUAGAAUACCAUGAUGUCCGUCAAUGGUGAAGUGAAUGACAGUAGGAUCUCUGACCUGGUGUGUGGUCAUGGACUGAUAGAAGUCCAUGACUACACGGGCAUAGAAAAAAUCCCUAGGAGUCAGCAAAUGCUCCAUAUGAUACCUGUGUAGCAGAUGAAAGGAGUCCCGGAGCUCAGGCUAAAGUUUGAAAGUGGCUGUGUCAAAACACAGCUCAGAGUGAAAUGGUCGAGCCCUGCAAUCUAGAUUACCCUCAAUGGGCGGCUGAGCGUUCAUGGGACGCCUGAUAAUCACCUCAGGAGUCAUGCCUGAGGGAAUCUGAGAUUCUAUAGGUGGCGACUGAGACUGAUGAGGCUCCAACAGAGGCUCCGGAGACGGCUCCGUUAAGUCAAUUGGCUCUGAAUCCUCUACCCUGGAUUUUUUCAUUGGUGGACGGCCACCUGACCUUGUCUGAUAUCGUCUGACCGGUGGACUUAUCGGCAAGGGUUCAACCGGAGGUGGAGCGACUACUUGACGCGGAGGCUGGGAUGUGGAUCCUUGAACAGGGGUCUCUUUUGCGGCUUUCUUGCGGCCGGACGGGGAUGAGGACUUUGCUCCUCUGGUUCUUGCCAUGGCGAAUUGAAGAAAAUGGUUGGAGACACUUGCGGCUUGGGCUCAGACGAGAGAGAGCAAAUGAACGGUUGCUCUGGCUUUCUUUCUCUUUAGUAUCUUUUUGCAGCUCAAAUGACCGGUUUUUACAAAAUAUGGAAUUUAUAAGGUUCAAAAAAUGGAUACCAAGGGUCGUUUUAAUUUUUCGCAGAGGAGGGUCGAUUUCGCAAUGGAGGGGCUUUUUCGUAGCGAAGGGCCGAUUUCGUAGCCCAUUUCGCAACUGCGAAAUGAGGCUACUGUGCUACGAAAUGGCACUCGUGUGCCAAAGGGGUGUUUCGCAGCUGCGAAAAUUUUCGCAGAGGAGGGCAUGGGGCUGCGAAAUGAAUUUCGCAGCCGAUGGGCGAUUUCACAGCGGACCUUUUGGGGCUGCAAAAUCAUUUCGCAGGGGCCCCCUUUUGGCUGCGAAAUUUCGUAAACCACUACUUUUCCCUUUCUUUUAAAUUCCUUUUUGCUCCCAACGACCUUCCUUCGAUUUCUUUGCAAUUCCUCCUACAUGAGAUCAUUCAAAAAGAUUUAAUUACAUACAAAUACACAACUUAAGAUCAAAAAUUAAAAUUAAAAUAAUUAAUAAAGCUUUUAAAUUAACAAAAUUAAACAAAAAUAUGGACUUUGGUGAAACCAAGUCCAUCUAACCCUUGUCUGAUUAGGCUUUAUGUGGCUUAAGGAGGUUGAUUUCCUCAUUUUCUUUCUUGAAUGGCUCAAUGAAUGGCUUGAGACGAUGACCAUUGACCUUGAAAGUGUCAAUGCUGUUGGAAUUCAAUAAUUCCACCACUCCAUUCAAGCGCACUUGGUGAAUAAUGAAAGGGCCUAUUCACCUUGACUUGAGCUUCCCUGGAAAGAUGUGGAGCCUUGAAUCAUAGAGUAAGACUCUUUGUCCUUUAUGGAAUUCUUUAUUGGAGAUUAAUUGAUCAUGCCACCUCUUCAUCCUCUGUUUUGCAACUUUGGAAUUGAUGUAAGCAUCAUUUCUUAAUUCCUCCAUCUCAUUAAGGUCUAAGCACCUAUUUGCCCCGGUUCUGAUCAAGUCCAUGUUUAACUUCUUGAUUGCCCACCAAGCUUUAUAUUCAACUUCCACAGGGAGAUGGCAUGCUUUGCCAUAGACUAGGCGAUAAGGAGACAUACCAAGAAUAGUCUUGUAAGCUGUUCUAUAUGCCCAUAGUGAAUCAUGAAGCUUAAUAGACCAAUCUCUUCUACUUGUGAUCACCACCUUCAUCAAUAUAUUUUUGAUUUCCCUGUUUGCUAGCUCCACUUGAUCGGAUGUCUGAGGGUGAUAAGGUGUAGCUACCUUAUGCUUCACUCCAUACUUGGCUAAUAAGGCUUCAAAAGGUCUAUUGCAAAAAUGAGUACCUCCAUCACUGAUUAUGGCCUUGGGCACCCCAAAUCUUGAAAAAAUGUUCUCUUUGAGAAACUUGAGAACCACCUUGUGAUCAUUAUGUUUACAGGGGAUUGCCUCAACCCAUUUAGAAACAUAGUCCACCCCCACCAAGAUAUAAGAGUUACCAAAAAACAUUGGGAAAUGGCCCAUGAAAUCAAUGCCCCAAACAUCAAAGAGAUCAACUAUUAGAAUGGGGUUCAUAGGCAUUUGAUUCCUUCUUGUUAGCUUUCCAAGCCUUUGGCAUCUAUCACAGCUCCUACACAUGAUGUGGGCAUAUUUGAAAAGUGAUGGCCAAGUAAACCCUGAUUGCAACACCUUCAUGGUUGUUUUCUGAGAGGCAAAGUGGGCUCCACAUGCACUUUCAUAACAAUGGCUGAGGAUUCCUUGUUGCUCUUCUUCAGGAACACACUUCCGUAUUAUUUGAUCUACACAAUACUUGAAAAGGAAAGGCUCCUCCCAAUAAUAAGCAUGAAUCUUUGCAAAGAAGUGCUUCUUGUCUUGUGCUUUCCACUCACUUGGAACAUCACCAGUAACUAGAUAGUUAGCAAUAUGAGUAUACCAAGGAGUUUUUACUAGCAACAUGAGUGAUUCCUCAGGAAAAUCAUCAUUAAUAGGUAAGACAUGGGAAUUGUGUGCUAUAGCCAACCUUGAAAGGUGGUCAGCUACCACAUUUUCCACUCCUUUCUUGUCUCUGAUCUGGAGAUCGAACUCUUGUAGUAAGAGAAUCCAUCUAAUCAACCUUGCUUUAGCAUCUUGUUUUGUCAAUAAAUACUUCAAGGCUGAAUGGUCAAUGAAAACAAUGAUGAAAGACCCUACUAGAUAAGCACGAAACUUGUCUAAGGCAAACACCAUGACUAAAAAUUCUUUCUCUGUAGUUGUGUAGUUUCUUUGAGCUUCGUUCAAGGUUUUGCUUGCAUAGUAGAUCACAUAGGGCUUCCCAUCUUCUCUUUGGCCAAGCACAGCUCCUAUAGCAAAGUCACUGGCAUCACACAUUAUUUCAAAGGGUAGUUGCCAGUUAGGAGCCCUCACUAUUGGAGUUGUUGUUAAGAAUUGCUUCAGUUGAUCAAAGCUCUUUUGACAUCUUUCAUCCCAUAUAAAUUUAGCAUCCUUAGUCAAAAUUUCACAAAGAGGUUUUGAAAGAUUAGAGAAAUCUUUUAUAAAUCUCCUAUAGAACCCUGCAUGGCCAAGGAAUUGCCUCACUCCUUUUACAGUUGUUGGGGACAACAAUUUGAAAAUAAGUUCCACCUUUGCUUUAUCAACUUCAAUGCCUUUCUUGGAGAUGAUAUGGCCAAGGACAAUUCCCUGACGUACCAUAAAAUGGCAUUUCUCCCAGUUGAGCACCAAGUCCUUCUCAAUGCAUCUGUUAAGAACCGCUUCCAAAUUGACUAAGCAUUCUUCAAAUGUACCUCCAUAUACGGUGAUGUCAUCCAUGAAAACCUCCAUAAUUUGCUCCACCAUAUCACUGAAGAUACUCAAUAUACAUCUCUGGAAUGUUGUGGGUGCAUUGCAUAAACCAAAAGACAUUCUUCUGUAAGCAUAUGUUCCAAAUGGACAUGUGAAAGUGGUCUUCUCCUGAUCUUCAACAUCAAUUUCAAUUUGAAAAUAUCCGGAGUACACAUCUAAGAAACAAUAGAAAGGAUGGCUAGAGACUCUCUCCAAAACUUGAUCAAUAAAUGGCAAUGGAAAAUGAUCUUUCCUUGUCACAACAUUCAAUUUUCUAUAAUCAAUACACACCCUCCAACCUGAAGUGAGGCGUGUAGUAAUUUCUUCUCCUCUUUCAUUUUGAACCAUAGUAAUCCCUGACUUCUUUGGUACCACUUGAGUAGGACUCACCCAAGGGCUGUCAGAUAUGGGGUAGAUAAUACCUGCUUGAAGUAGCUUUAACACUUCCACUCGCACCACCUCUUGCAAAUGAGGAUUCAAUCUUCUUUAAGGUUGACGAAUUGGUUUGGAUUCUUCCUCCAUAUAUAUAUGAUGUGUACAAACCAAAGGACUAAUGCCUUUCAAGUCAGAUAUUUGCCAUCCUAUUGCUUUCUUGCACCUCUUGAGAACUUCAAGUAGACACUUUUCCUGAUGAUUAGUAAGAGAUGAAGAUAUAACAACAGGGCAUUGUUUAUUCUCUUCUAGGUAUGUAUAUUUCAACUUCAUGGGCAGAGGCUUCAAAUUAAGCUUUGGGGUUUCUUUUUUAUCAGCUUCUUGUGCCUCCUCUUUAUUGAACAAAGGUAGAAUCUCUUAUCUCCUUCUCCAACCUUGUAGAGUAGCUAGCACAUCAGAGGGUUUAGGCAACCCUUCUUCAAGAUCCCCAAGACUUUCAUUUAAUUUGUCUUGCAUAUUCUGAUUACAGUGCUCCUCCAUUAGAGUGUCAAUAAUGCAUACCUCCUCGAGACCUUCUUCUUUUUCUGGAGUGAUUUGCUUUUUAGACAUAUAAAAGAUAUUGAGCUCAAGUGUCAUGUUGCCAAAAGUGAGUUGCAUGAGUCCAUUCCUACAGUUAAUGAUUGCAUUUGACAUAGCAAGGAAUGACCUUCCAAGGAUGAUAGGAACUGAAUUUGCUUCCUUAACAGUAGGAUCUACUAGAUAGUAGAAAUUGUCAACUUGAACUAAGACAUCUUCAAUUACCCCCCUUGGAAUUUUCACUGAUCUAUCUGCUAGAGAUAGAGUGAUUGAUGUUGGCUUCAAUUCACCAAGUCCCAAUUGCUUGUAGACAGAGUAUGGAAGCAAAUUCACACUUGCUCCCAAGUCUAACAAAGCUUUCUCCACUACCUUUCCUCCAAUCAUGACGGGAAUGGUAGGACAACCCGGAUCUUUGUACUUCAAAGGAGACUUGCAUUGUAUAAUAGCACUUACUUGCUUAGUCAAGAAGGUUUUCUUGUUCACAUUCAACCCUCUUUUGAUAGUACACAAAUCCUUUAGGAAUUUUGCAUAUGUUGGAACUUGUUUAAUCAUAUCUAGCAAUGGAAUAUUGACUUUCACUUGUCUCAAUACUUCAAGAAUUUCUGAUGCAUUUCUAAUCCCCUUUUUCCCAUGUAAAGCUUGAGGAAAAGGUGGAGAGGUGUGCUUCUUCAGCAUUUCUUCCUUAAGAAGUAUCUUCUCCGGAUUUGUAUUCACUGUUGAAUCAUGGUCCUCUUUCUUUUCACUGAUAUCUUUCUUCUUUCCUUUGAUCUCCUCCCUCUUCUUUGUCUCUUCUUCUUCUACCUCUUCAUUGUCUCUUCUUCUUCUACCUCUUCAUGUGGCUUGGGUGUUGGCAUCUCAACCUUUUUACCACUCCUUAGAGUGAUCAAAGCUUUAACAUCUCUCACCUGUGAGGAUUCUCCCUCAUGAGUUUCCACUUCAUGGAUACCCUUGGGGUUUUGGUGAGGUUGAGAAGGAAAUCUACCCUUCUCUUGCAUUGUGUUCAAGUUAGUGAGCCUUGAGAUUGAGUAUUGGAGAUUAUCUAUCUUUUGAGAUAAGUCAUUUUGCAUCCCAUCCAUCAUUUUAUUCAAAGUAUUCUUUACACUGUCAAUUCUUUGACUGAGUUGAGCAUUGAUGGCUUUUUGAUCUCUAACAAAAUCUCCCACAACCUUGCUGAGAUUUACAAUUGCUUGUUCAAGACUUGAAGAUUGUUGAGAUGGUUGAGCCGAUUGUUGGUACUGAGGUGCUCUUGACUUCCAUGAGAAAUUUGGAUGAUUCCUCCAACUUGAGUUGUAAGUAUUUCCAUACGGAGCAUUGUUAUUGGGCUUAAAUUGUCCAACAACGUUUGCUUGAUCUCCAAACAUUUCCCUUGCAACUAGAAUUGUAGGGCAUUCCUCCACCAAGUGUUCAUAAGAUUGACAAUAGGACAUGGCUUUACUUGCACUGGUGAUUCAGCAUCAGCUUGCACUUCACACAUCUUUUUUAGUUCUGGCUCCUCCAAUCUUCUUGUCAUAGCCGCAACCUUUGCUUUCAUAUCAUCAUCUUCAUUCAAGGUAUACAUCCCAGCCUUAGCAUUAAAAGCACUCGGUUGAGACUUCAUCUUUCCCACUUCUCCUUUGUUUGGUUCAUCCCAUCCCCUUGAAACUUCAGCCACAUAAUUCAAGAAAUCCAUCACUUCCUCCAGAUUUUUGCUCAUGAAAUCUCCUCCACACAUUGUCUCGAGGAGUUGCUUCAUUGAGGAAGACAUCCCAUCAUAGAAAUAGCUCACCAAUAGCCAUGUAUCAAAACCAUGAUGAGGGCAAGCAUUGAUGGCUUCCAUGUAUCUUUCCCAACACUCAUAGAAUUUCUCAUUCUUUUUAGUUGAGAAGUUUGAAAUUUGCCUUUUCAAGCCAUUUGUUCUGUGAGUAGGAAAAAAUUUCUUAAGGAAUUCAGCUUGUAAAUCAGUCCAAGUAUGGAUACUAUUUGGCCUUAAAGAAUUAAGCUAAAUUUUGGCUUUAUCCUUUAAAGUAAAAGGAAAUAGCUUAAGCCUCAUUAAGUUAAUUGAAGCUCCUCCCUCUUGGAAUGUAUUACAAACAUCUUCAAAUUCCUUGAUAUGUGCAUAGGGAUUCUCACUUUCCAUCCCAUGGAAAGUUGGUAGAAAUGGAACAAUAUGCGGUCUGAUCACUAGCUGCUCUGUAGGGGGCAUUAUACAUGAUGGUGCACUCAUAUGAGGUGGAUGCAUGCGGUCCCUCAUUGAUCUGAAAGCAUUGGGAUUGUCCUGGUGACCAUGGUGACUAUGCUGAUCUUCAGGUGUAGCUUCCAUGAUAUUCAAGCUCAAUUCCAAUUCCUUGUUAUGAGGUGUAUCACGUUUAACAAGCCUUCCUCCACUGUCUCGUAUCCAAUUUGGCAUACACAACUAGUAUCAACUGUAACUAUAAAAAAAACAAAAGAAAACAAGACUACAAAAAGACUAAAAUAAAGUAAAUCUGAAUUAAAAGAUGUAUUCAAAUAUGAACAAGUAAAGAAAUAAUAAAAAAAAAUAGUAAGAUGAAAGAAAAGUUACCAAACUUGUGAUGAAAAUCACAAGUACUCUAAAAUAGUAUCACUGUGAAAUUGGCACCUUCCCCGGCAACGACGCCAUUUGAUUUCGUGCCCAGCUGGUAUACCUUGAUUUUGGUCCUCUGAUGGGAGUAAUCAACAAAAUUUAUAACCUAUUACACCAUGUACUAGGAUAGCCUCGGCUAGCAUAUCAUAGUAGCUCUAGGAUCGUUCACUAGGAAGGGUUUUCAAUUAUAAAUGAUACCAAUUCAAAGUGAAUUGGUGCCUUUUCAUUUCAAGGUUAGCUUUAAAAGAAAACAUAAACUUGGGUUGGAAAAGGUUUGGUUUUAAGCUAAUUAAAAAGAAAGUAAUGGGAAUUACUUAUAAAGAAAAGCGUUUCUUGGAGUUUUAGGAUCACCAGGGUUAGGCUCCUUAUACAAAAACAGAGUUUUGGUCACUUUGAUUCUUUUCCUCGCAUUGGAGAAUUAACAUAUAGUUCAUUCUCCAACCGGUGUUGUACAGAUGCAGCCCAUUUAUGGAUUUUAGCAUUAAAUCCCUCUCACUGAUGCAUCUCGCAAUGGCUCAUGCCUCUCACCUAGCAUUUUCCAUUCAAGGUGAUCAUUAACCUUGGACUUCCCUUCUCAAGCUCACAAGAGGUAACUAAUGGAUGUCUCCUUAGAGUCUAAAAGCUUACCAAGUGUUGGCAAUUCUAGAAAAUCCUACCUUCAAGUCACCUCCCAAAGGCUCGCAAGAGAUAAACUAGUGAAUCUCCAUGGACGGAGAUCACUUGCCUUACCAAGUGUUGGCCCAUGUGAAUUGAAGGCGUUUUAAGUUAACUAAAAAGAUAAAAACCAUUAACGGGUUACACUUCCUCUUCAUUUACAGCUGAAACCACAAAACUCUAAAUUCGUGCAUUUGGAAACUUACCCGGCUACCUUAGCUCCAAGAGACACAAAGUCUAGCCACUCAUUCUCUGAGGAAACAUCCUCAGAGCUUGUUUGGCUAGUAAGAAAAAUACAAUCAAAAUGAGAAGGUAAGGCAGAGCAAAGCUCUGCAUUUUACUUCCUUGAAAAACUAUACAAAAAGUUGGUUUUUCUCUGAGAACAGGCUCUCAAGAUAUCAUUGAUAUGAAAAUUACAAGAAUAAUAUAUACAUGGUUAUUCACCCUUUUUGUCUUUCUUAGCAACUAAGGAAUCCUAUAAUUGGUGAGUUACAAGGAGAAAAUGGGGAUUUAGAUAUCAAAUAUCUGAAGCAAAAUAUCCAAAAGUGUUCGCAAAUAUCUGGAAGCACUCAGGAGAAUUUCACAGACGUACAAGAUGGCUGUGAAAUUUCGCAGCCAAAGGCUGAUUUCGCAGAGGCUUUCCUUAGGCUGCGAAAUUGGCCUUCAGCUUGGUGUGAUCAGCUUCCAAUGGCUCUAACUUCUUCAUUUCAACUCCGAUUCAUGUACUGUUUGAAGCGUUGGAUUGCUAACUUCCAGAGCUUCGAAACGACAUAUGGUAUGCAUCAAAUAGGCUCUGGAAAGUGCUUCAAAAGUGUCAAACAGUUGAUGUCCUCUUGCAUUCUUCAUGUUACUUUCAUCCUUGCAUUCUUGAUUUGUUUUUGGCAAAGGACUACAAAGCUUCAAAGCUUGAAUUCUUCAUGUUAAUGAGCUUCCAAUUGCUUUGCCAUGGAUUCCAUGGAACUCUCCUUAGUCUUGGAUUGCUUUGGUGAUCAAAAUACUAUCAAAAGCACCAAAACUUACACAAUUUGAUUAGAAAUGAUUGCAAAGGUACUUAAUAUGUUAAUUGAGUUAAAAGGUAAUAACUACUACUCAAAAGUGUUUAAAAGAGUUAAUUACAAGCUAUCAAUUAGUACUUUUUGAGUAGUAAUCAAGGGUCCACCUAAUCAGUCUUGCCUUGGCAUCUUGCUUGGUCAACAAAUACUUCAAAGCAGAGUGAUUGGUUAAUACCACUAUGAAAGACCCCACCAUGUAAGCACGAAAUUUGUCCAAGGCAAAAACUACCGCUAACAAUUCCUUCUCGGUGGUUGUGUAGUUUCUUUGCACCUCAUUGAGUGUCUUACUGGCAUAAUAGAUCAUAUAGGGUUUUCUAUCUUCUCUUUGGCCCAACACAGCUCCAAUAGCAAAAUCACUAGCAUCGCACAUUACCUCAAAAGGUAAUUGCUAGUUAGGAGCUUGCACAAUGGGUGUUGUUGUUAGAAAUGACUUUAAUUGCUAAAAAAUUCUUUGAAAUCUUUCAUCCCAUAUGAAUUUGGCAUCCUUGACCAAUAGUUCACAAAGAGGACUUGCAAGCUUUGAAAAGUCCUUGAUAAACCUCCUAUAGAACCCGACAUGUCCAAGGAAUUGCCUUACUCCCUUGACAUUGGUGAGGGAUGGCAACUUGACAAUGAGUUCAACUUUUGCUUUAUCAACUUCAAUUCCCUCCUUAUAGAUGAUAUGCUCGAGAACAAUCCCUUGUUGUACCAUGAAAUGGCACUUCUCCCAGUUAAGCACCGAGUCUUUUUCAAUGCACCGAUUUAGAACAACUUCUAAGUUUACCAAGCAAUCCUCAAAUGCACUUCCAUAAACGGUGAUAUCGUCCAUAAAGACUUCCAAAAUUCGCUCCACCAUAUCACUAAAGAUGCUUAGCAUGCAUCUUUGGAAAGUUGUGGGUGCAUUGCAUAAACCAAAAGGCAUUCUCCUAUAUACAAAUGUACUAAAGGGGCAUGUGAAAGUGGUCUUCUGUUGAUCUUCCAAAUCAAUCUCUAUUUGAAAGUAGCCAGAGUGGCCAUCCAAAAAACAGUAGAAAGGAUGCCCAGAAACCCUUUCAAGCACUUGGUCAAUAAAAGGCAACGGGAAAUGGUCCUUCCUUGUCACCGCAUUCAAUUUCCUGUAAUUGAUACACACCCUCCAACCAAUAGUAAGGCGUGUGGAGACAUCUUCUCCCAUAUCAUUCCGCACCACCGUGAUCCCAGACUUCUUUGGGACAACCUGGGUUGGACUCACCCAUAAGCUAUCUGAUAUGGGAUAAAUAAUACCGGCUUGAAGUAGCUUCAAAACUUCAUCUCGCACCACCUCUUGCAUGUGAGGGUUCAACCUUCUCUACAGUUGGCGAAUUGGCUUUGCUUCCUCCUCCAUAUAGAUAUGAUGGGUGCACACCAAAGGGUUGAUCCCUUUCAAGUCUGAAAUUUUCCACCCAAUGGCCUUCUUACAUCUUCUAAGGACUUCAAUUAGACAAUCCUCUUGAUGAAUGGUGAGAGCUGAAGAGAUCACCAUAGGGCACUGCUUGUCUUCCUCCAAGUACGCGUAUUUCAACCCAGUAGGAAGAAGCUUAAGAGUAAGCUUUGAGGGCUCCUCCUUACCAACUUUGUGCGACUCCUCAUCAUUGAAUAAAGGUAGAAUCUUUUCCCUCUUCCUCUAAUGAGACAUGGUAGUUAGCAAAUCUGAGGGUUCAGGUAACCCUUCAUCAAGAUCCCUAAGACUCUCAAUCAAAUGUUCCUCCAUGCUCUGUUCACAAUGCUCCUUAACCAAAGUGUCAAUCAUGCACACUUCCUCUGACCUUUCCUCUUCUACCGGAUGGAGAUGCUUCUUGCACAAAUGGAAGAUGUUUAGCUCCAAGGUCAUGUUGCCAAACGUGAGUUGCAUAAUUCCAUUCCUACAAUUGAUGAUUGCAUUAGAUGUAGUGAGGAAUGGUCUUCCAAGUAUGAUUGGCACAUAGUUUUUCCUCGUGACAACUGGAUCAGUAUCAAGAACAACAAAAUCUACUGGAUAGUAGAAUUUGUCAACUUGUACUAAGACAUCCUCAAUUAUCCCCCUUGGGAUCUUCACUGAUCUAUUAGCUAGGGAGAGAGUAAUGGAUGUAGGCUUCAACCCCCCAAGUCCCAACUACUUGUAAACCGAAUAGGGUAGCAAAUUCACACUUGCUCCCAAGUCUAGAAGAGCUUUCUCCACACAUGUCCCUCUAAUAUUUACUGAAAUGGUGGGGCAUCCUGGAUCUUUAUACUUCACUGGAGAUUUGUACUGGAUGAUAACACUUACUUGUUCAGUUAAGAAGGUUUUCUUGGUCACAUUUAACCCUCUCUUUACAAUGCACAAGUCCUUCAAGAAUUCGGCAUAAGUUGGAACUUGCUUGAUCAUGUCAAGUAAAGGAAUGUUGACCUUCAGUUACCUCAACACUUCAAAAUUUUAUGAUGUAUUCUUGGUUCCCUUCUUACCAUACAAAGCUUGAGGGAAAGGUGGAGGCAUGUGCUUCUUCAUCAUAUCUUCCUUGAUGACUAUCCUUGGUUCUUCAUCCACACUUGAAUCAUGGUCACCUUCAUCUGACUUCUUCUCACCCAUGUUUUUCUCUGAUUCACUUCCUUCACCAUGCUUCAGCUUGGGUGGGGGUUGAACAACCUCCUUACCACUCCUAAGAGUGAUAACUACUUUGACUUCCCUCACCUUUGAAGAUUCUCCCUCUUAAGCUUCUACUUCAUGAAUACCCUUUGGAUUUUGACGAGGUUGAGAAGGAAACUUUCCUUUCUCUUACACAGUAUUGAGGUUGGUGAGCCUUGAGAUGGAAUAUUGAACAUUAUCUAUCUUCUGAGAUAGAUCAUUUUGCAUCACAUCCAUCCUCUUAUUCAAUGUACUCUCCAUUCUAUCAAUUUUCUGAUUCAAUUGAGAGUUGAUUGACUUUUGCUCCCCCACAAAGUCUCCCACAACCUUGCUAAGAUUCACAAUGGCUUGUUCAAGGUUUGAAGCUUGUUGAGGUGCUUGAGCUGGUGGUGUAUACUGAGGUGGCCUUGGCUUCCAUGAGAAAUUUGAAUGGUUCCUCCAAUUAGAAUUGUAGAUGCUUCCAUAAGGAGCAUAGUUGUUAGGCUUGAAUUGGACAACCACAUUUGCUUGAUCACCAAACAUUUCUCUCACUGUUGGAAUGGUUGGGCACUUCUCCACCAAGUGCUCAUAAGACUGACAUAUGGAACAAGGUGUAGCUUGCACUCGUGUCUCGGAAAUGACCUGUACUUCUUGUACUUUCUUCAGUUCUAGCUCUUCCAAUCUCCUUCCCAUAGUUGCAAAUUUUGUUUUCAUGUCCAUGUCUUCACUCAACACAUACAUUCCACCCUUAGCAUUGGAAUGAGACUUCAUCCUCCCCACAUCUCUAGUAUUCGGUUCAUCCCAUCCUCUUGAAACUUCAGAAACAUAGCUCAAGAGUCCAUAGCUUCCUCCGGAUUCUUACUCAUGAAGUCUCCUCCACACAUGGUCUCUAGGAGUUGCUUCAUACAGGAAGACAUACCAUCAUAGAAAUAACUCACUAAGAGCCAUGUAUCAAAGCCAUGGUGAGGAAAAGCGUUGAUAGUUUCCAUGUACCUCUCCCAACACUCAUAGAAUUUCUCAUUCUCCUUAGCUAAGAAGUUUGAAAUUUGCCUUUUCAAGCCAUUGGUCCUAUGAGUAGGGAAGAACUUCUUGAGAAACUCAGCUUGUAAAUCAGUCCACCUUCUGAUACUCCUCGACCUUAAAGAAUUAAGCUAAACCUUGGCCUUAUCCUUUAAGGUGAAAGGGAAUAGCUUGAGUCUCAUCAAGUCAAUUGCAGUUCCUCCUUCUUGGAAUGUAUUGCACACGUCUUCAAACUCCUUGAUGUGAGAAUAGGGGUUCUCACUUUCCAUCCCAUGGAAAGUAGGUAGAAGUGGCACUAUAUGAGGUCGGAUCACUAGCUGCUCAAUGGGAGGCACUAUGAAUGAAGGUGCACUCAUCCGAGGUGGAUGCAUGCGGUCCCUCAUGGAUUUUGAGAUUCUCCUCUUGCUCAUGUUGGCUAUGUUGAUCUUCAGGUGGACAAUCCAUGAUGUUCAAGUAGACUUCAAACUCGGUUUCUUGAGGAGCUUCAAUUUUCACAAGUCUUUCCUCAAUAUCUCUUAUCCAAUGGGGCAUACACAACUCAUGAUUUCUGAAAUAAAAACAAAGAAAACCAAAGGACUACAUUUCUAGGAAAAGAUUUAAGGUUAGAUAAAAACUAAAUGAAAGAUAAAAUAAAAUAAAAACAAAGAAAACGAGUUAGUGAAAGAAAAAUCACUAACUUGUGAUGAAGAUCACAAGUACUCAUAAAAGGUAACAUUUAUGUACUUAGGUACCAUCCCCGACAGCGGUGCCAUUUAAUUCAUGCCCAGCCGGGUGUUUAUCAAAACAUUUAUAAAACCUACAACACCUUAUACUAGGGUAGCAAAGACAAAGCUACUAUAGUAUAGUGGCUCUAGGAUCGUCCACAGGAAUGGGUUUUCUUUGUACACUUAACAUUAAUGAAAGGAGAAACAGUGAUUUCCUUUUUGGAAGUUAGCUUUUAAAUGAAAAUAAGAUUGAUUGGAAGGGUUGAUUUUAAGUUAAGCAAACAUAAACAACUGAAAUUACUAUAAAGAGAAAGUCUCUUGGAGCUAUAGGUUACUAGGAUCAGGUUCCUGUUGCAAAGUGGGAAAUUACAAAUCUUCUCCUCGCAUUGGGGAUAAUAACAUAAAGGAUGGUUAUCUCCCGAACCGGAUUUGUAUUUAGCAAAUAAGUUUUGAUCGAAAGGAUUCUUGAAAAAUGGUAGUUGCUUCCCAUUAAUGGCUUCAAACACUAAAGACCCUCACCUUGAACCACCUUCUAAUGGCUCAUACUUGAUAACUAAUAGACAUCCAUGGAUUUAGCAAUAAGCAUCCAUAGAAUCCUAAAAGCUUACCAAGUAUUGGCCAUUCAAGGUGAUUCUAAGGGAUUAAAGCUGAAACUUGAAAUACAAACCAUUAAUGAUACACAACUACCUUCAUUUUUAGCAAGGAAAACUCCAACCUUUUCAUCUAGGUCCUUUACCUAGCUUCCAUAACUCCAAAAAAUGUGAAAAUUAGCCACUCAUCCUUUGAGAAAUCAUCCUCAGAGGGUGUUUGGCUAGAGAGAAAGUGAAGAGAAAAUGAGAAGAAAAGGCAGAGAAAAACUCGUCUUUACAAAAUCUCUCAUCCUUUGAGAGGUUUUCCAACCCCUAUUUAUAGUUCCUAAACAAACCCUAAUGUCAUUUAUCUAUUACAAAAGGAGUAAAAAGGAAAAAAUUACAAUUCUGGAGAUUUUUCCCAAAGGUCGAUGCGCAUAAAGUGAUUUUUGCACACCCUGCAAAAAUUUGGCACACCUUGCCAAAUUUUGGCACACCUUGCGAAUUUUGGCACACCUUGCAAAUUUGAUGAUUUUGCCUUGCGAAAUGCUCUAUUUCUCUCCAUCUUACUACUAAUAGCUUUGCCAGCCCCUUUCCAAGUUUGGCAAGGGGUUUUGAAGUGCUCCAAGGCUCGGAUUCUUCAUGUGAUUGAUCUUCAACUUGCCUUGCCAUAGCUUGCACAAAACUCUCCCUCAAUCUUGGCCGGUUUCGGUGAUAAAAAAGCUACCAAAAACACUAAAACUUACCAAAAAUUGGUUAGUAACAUUCUCUAGGUCCUUACAUGCCAAUUGGGAUAAAAAGGUCUAACUACUACUCAAAAGUGCUUAGUACAAUUAAGUUUAAGCUUAUAAAAAUGCACUUUUUGAGUAGUAAUCAUAUAGUCUUUUCCUAUUCUUUGAGGGUUGUUCCAAGAUUAAAUAUGCUCAGUUUCAUAAUUGAAAGGACUUUUUCAUAUUGCUAAGAAAAAAACUUGUGAGAUUGAUUUUUCUAUCAAAAUUCUUAUCUCUAAAGUGGAUUCAUUUGAGUGGUGAGCUUAAUUCUAAGUUCUUAUCUUUAAGGUGAUGAAUUUCUUAUCCUUAAAGUGGUGAACUUGUGUUAUUAACUUAUCAUUUUAUUUCCUUAAAACGUUAUCAUUUUGUGUCGAAAAAAGUAGUUACAGGCUCCCUUCAAGUUUCUCAUGUAUCAACCCGUAAUCAACUUGUGGAUAUACUCAACAAACCAUUGCCCAAGUCCUGCUUUACAUUCUUUCAGUCCAAGAUUGGCAUUUUUUUUAUGGAAGCCCCAUCUUGCAAGGGCAUAUUAGGAGAGAACCAAUCUCACCCACAAAUUAAGAGCACUCAAUGGUGAAGUAUUAAGUUUAGGAGUAACAGAUGUAUACCUUGUAUAGCUGUUGUAUCUUUUGGAAAGUCUAAUACAAAAGAUUAAUCUUCAAACUCUAAUAAGAGAAUUUGAAAUUUUGAGUGUGAAAAAAGAAAUCGAAAUAAAUCUCUAAUUAUUUUUCUAGAGUAUUAGCUGUUGUGAGUUUACAAUAAAAAUACGUCAAAAGUUUGAAUGAUAGCCAUGUGGUAAAAAAAUAUGUUCAAUCUUUAGAUUCCAAAUAAGUUUAACUAUAUUGUUGUUGUCAUUGAAGAAUAUAAACAUUUAGAUUCUAUGACCAUUGAUCAACUCAUGAGAUCACUACAAGCUCAUAAAGAGAUUAAAAAUAAAUAACUAAGAAAAAUUACAACUUUUUUAAACAGAUUAAACUUAUACUAAAGAAGAAUGAUGAAAACAUUAGUGAAAGAAGUCAAAACAAUCAUGAAUAUGUCAAAGACAUGGUCAUAGCCAUGGCUAAGACAAUAGAGGAAGAGGUAGGUUUAAUUUAUCAAACAAUUAAAUAACAAGUCAAAAUUCACAUUCCUUAGGAGGACAUGAAAGAUGACACAACUUAAGGCACAAUAAAAGAAGAGGAUAUGAUAAAUUUCAAAUUGAAUGUUAUAAUUAUAAAAAAUAUGGUCAUGAUGCUUAUGAAUAUAGAAAUGCUACAAACAAUAUGAAAAGACACAUCAAAGGAGUUGCCACCUAGGACCAAACUUCCUACUGAUCAAGUCUCAUAUCGAAUAUCACUUUUGAAGUUACUAGAGCUAAGGAGGUAAUUGAAGAAACUAUUGGAUGCACGCAUGAUCCAAUCUUUAAGGGUUUGUUACGAUGCUCCUAUCUUAUUCCAAAUAGAUGUGUGUUAACUAUUGGGCCUUGAACAAAGUAACGAUCAAGAAUAAGUAUCCAAUCUCCUUAGUGGAAGAAUUAAUUAAUAAACUGGCCAAGGCAAAGUUUUUCUCCAAAUUGGACUAGUGGUUAAGAUACUAGCAAGUAAGGAUUGUAGAGGGGGACAAAAAAAAAAAAAAAAGACUACAUGUGUAACCCACUAUGGGCCAUAUGAGUUCCUCAUGAUGCCAUUUAGACUAACUAACGCCUCAAUAACAUUCUACAACCUAAUGAAUGAUUUUCCAUACAAGUUCUUAGAUGCCUUUGUUGUUGUUUACUUUAAUGCAUUGUUGUCUAUAGCAAGACCUUAGAAGAGCAUGUGAAUCACUUGAGAUUACUAUUUCAAAGACUAAGAGCACACGAACUCUACUUGAAGAUGGAGAAGUGUGAGUUCACACAAAGUCAUAUUACCUAUCUAAGACAUAAGAUAGAUGAAGGGUUUAUCAAGAUGGAUGUUCAAACCAUUAAAGAUUGGCAUGCUCUAAGCAAGGUGACACUACCUGACUAUUAUUGAAUGUACAUAAGGGGCUACUUCAAGAUAGUGGCUCCCUUUGCUAACCUUUUAAAGAAGGAUAUUUGGGAUUGGAGUUUUGAAUGCUAGAAAGCUUUUGAGAAGUUGAAAGUAGUGAUUUGAGUUAAGUUGGUGUUGCAAUUACUAGAUUUGGAUCUCCUAUUUGAGACUCAAACAGAUGCAUUAGCUAGGGCCUUAGGGGGGAUCUUGGUGAAGGAAGGGCACCCACUAGCCUUUGAGAGUUGAAAACUUAAUGAGUUAGAACAAAGAUACUCUACUCACGAGAAAGAGAUGACAAUGAUUAUUCAUUGCUUAUAAUAGUGGAAGCAUUAUCUGUUGGGGAGUAUAUUUACUAUAUAUGGUCACAGGCAACAUAGUUAAUACAUUUUUCAAGAUGCAAAUGGAGUUGAGCCAUAAGCAAGCUAGGUGGCAAGAAUUCUUAGCCAACUUCAAGUCUGAAUGGUUGUAUUGACCAAGAAGACAUACUGUAGUUAUAAAUGCCUUAAACCAAAAGGAAUUGACAGAGUAUGUGAUCGCUCUAUCACAUGUAAUCUCAUAUUUUAAUGAAAAUAUCAAACAAGCUACUAAGAUUGAUUCUACUUAUGAGAAGAUGAAACAACAAGUCAAAGAGGGGGCUACUAAAAAAUAUUGGGUAGAAGAUGACCUCUUAGUGGCUAAAAGAGGUAGGCUAUAUGUACCAAGAAGUUGCUUACACAAGGAGUUGCUAAGAGAGACCUAUGAUGUUGAGUAGCAAAGAGAUGACAUCAAUAGUAUUGUCCAACUACUGUUACUAGCUAAAAAUAGGAGAGAACAUCUAGGCUUAUGUUCAAUAUUGUUUGAUAUGUCAAUUGGGUAAGACAAGCAAGAAGAAAGCUAUAAGGUUACUACAACCUCUCCCUAUCCAAAAGAGACCUAUUUGUGGACUUCAUCGGUGGCUUUCCAAAAGUGAACGAAUUCAAGUAUAUCUUCAUGAUAGUAGAUAGACUCUCUAAGUAUGUUGCUUUCAUACUUACACCACAUGCAUGUCCCGUAGAAGAGGUUGUUAGGCUAUUCCUCAACCAUGUGGUCAAGUACUUCAAGUUGCCUAAAGACAUAGUCAGUGAUUUCGAUGCUCAAUUCAUUGGUGAUUCGUGCCAAGAUGGUGUACCUUGAUUUUGGUCCUCUGAUGGGAGUAAUCAACAAAAUUUAUAACCUAUUACACCAUGUACUAGGAUAGCCUUAGCUAGCAUAGCAUAGUAGCUCUAAGAUCGUUCACUGGGAUGGGUUUUCACUUCACAAUCGAUAUUAAUUCAAAGUUGAAUUGGUGUUUCUUCAUUUCAAGGUUAACUUUAAAAGAAAACAUAAAGAUGUUUGAAAAGGUUGGUUUUAAGCUAACAAAAAAUAGUAACUAAUUUUAAUUACAAAGAAAAGUGUUUCUUGGGGUUUCAGAUCACUAGGCUCAGGUUCCUUAUACAAAAAGGGAGUUCAGGUCACUUGAAUCUUUUCCUCACGUUGGGGAUUUAACAUAUAGUUAUUUCCCAAACCAGUAUGGUAUAGAUGCUUCUCCUUAAUGGGUUCAAACACUAAUUCCCUAUCACUGAAUCAUCUUGCAAUGGUUCAUACCUCUCACCUAGUAUUGGCCAUUCAAGGUGAUCUUUAACCUUGGAUUACCCGUCAAAAGCUUGCAAGAGAUAAGUAAUGGAUGUCUCCUUGGAGUCCAAAAGCUUACCAAGUGUUGGCUAUUCUAGAAAAUCCUACCUUUAAACCACCUCCCAAAGGCUCGCAAGAGAUAAACUAGUGUAUCUCAAUGGACGGAGACCACUUGCCUUACCAAGUGUUGGCCCAAGUGAUUUAAAGGCGUUUUAAGUUAACUAAAAACAUAGAAACCAUUAACGGGUCACACUUUCUCUUCAUUAAAAAUUGAAACAACAAAAACUUCCAAUUUUUGCAUUCGGAAACUUACCCGACUUUCUUCACUCCAAGAGACAAAAAGCCUAGGCACUCAUAUUAUGAGGAAACAUCCUCAGAGUUUGAUUUGCUAUAAAUAAAAAUGACGAGAAAACAAAAAUAUGAAGGAAAAACAGAGCAAGUGCUCUGUAAAAUAUAUUUCUUACUAUCGUCGAUUACAUAUCUGAUAUAUGAUAUAUGAUUUACAUUGGUUCAAAGAUAUAUAUAUAUAUAUAUAUAGAAGAUAUUUUCUAAGAAAUAUCCCAAUAAUAUCUUUGACUGAUUACAAAGAGAAAAUAGAAAUUUACAAAAUAUCUUGAAAAAAAUCUAACUUAGUCGGUGGCAAAUAUCUGAGUUUACACAAGUGGAUUUCGCAGCUGCGAAAUGGCCUUUGGGUUGCAAAAUUUUCGCACAACUUGAUGUAGUUGUCUUCAAACGGCCAUAACUUCUUCGUUUCAACUCCGAUUCGCACACCGUUUGAAGCGUUGGACUUCUAACUUCCCAAUAUUCGAAAAGAAAAGAAAUGGAAUCCAGGAAGUACUCGAAAUAUGUCCAACAGUUGUUGUCCUCUUGAAUUUCCUCAUGUUAGAUUUCUCUCAUUUUCCUCCUUGCAUUUUUUAUUGGCUUUGGCAAAGGACUACAAAGCUCCAAAGCUUGAAUUCUCCAUGUAAAUGAGCUUCCAUUUUCUUUGCCAUGGAUUAUAUAGAACCCUCCCUUAUCUUAGAUUGCUUUGGUGAUCAAAAAGCUAUUUGAUUAGAAGUGAUUGCAAGGGUCCUUAACAUGCCAAUUGAGUUAAAAGGUAAUAACUACUACUCAGAAGUUGGAGCUUUCUACAUUAACAAGAAUGGAUUUGGGAACAUCUAAAUAAUAUGUAUAACACUUUUCUCUAGAUCUAUGAAAUGUUUUUGUUUUUUAAAUACCAAAGUUUUCAACUAUGCUUAGAUCUAGAAAGCAUAAGAUAAUGUUACAUGCACCCUAAUAAUCCAAGGCCUAGGAAUAUAGCGAUCUAAGGUUUCCUAACAAAAUAACCCAAUAAGUAAGAAUGAUUUAUAGGAACUAAAAUUUCUUUCAAAAAGAAAAGAAGAUUAUUGGAGUAAAAUAGGUAUACAAGAGAGGAAAAAAUGCAAAAGAAGUAAAAAAAAUACAAAGCAACAUUGGCGCAAAGGAUUACAAGUAAGAAUAAUGCACCAACAAGACAAGGGUAUUUGCUCUCAUUGCUCUUUUAGUAACUAUAAGAUUAAUAAUCUCUUUGGUAGUUUAAAUUAGUUGAAAAUUUUCAAAUGAAUGUGAAAUCCAAUUUUUUGAAUUGACAUUUGGAAGAAGAAGUGUAUGUAGAAUAAACCAUAGUCGGUAUACAUAUAUGGGCAUGAGAAUAAAGUUCCAAAAUUGAAAAUAACCUUGUAUGUAAUAAAACAAACACUAAGAGCAUGGAAUAAUUGAAUUGACCAAUAUUUUCACGAUAAUAAUUUUGCUUGAUACCUUAAUGAACAUGCUCUCUACAUAAAAUUGAAAGAAAAAAGUGAUAUAUUACUUAUUUGUUUGGAUGUGAAUUGUUUGAUCUUUAUUGGAACUAAUCCAAUCAUGUUUAGUGAGUUCAAAAAAGUAAUAGGACAAAAGUUUGAGAUGAUUGGAUUAGUCUCUCUUGGCAUAGACUUGAAGCAGAUUGAAAAGAGUACUUUUUAUUUCUCAAGAAGACCAUGCAAAAUAAUUUUUUAGAAAGUUUAACUUGAAUAUGUGUAAUAUGGUAAACACAAUAAUAUAAUGCAAAGCUAAAUUAUCAAAGACAUGUAGAAGGAGAAAAAGUGGAUUCAACAUAACAUAAAAUCUUAGUUGGAACCAUACACUAUUUGACUCAUACAAGUUCAAACAUUCUCUUUGGAGUUGGAUUUAUCCAUCAUUAUAUGGAAGCACUAAUGAUUAUUUACACUAAGACCUCCUAGUGAAAUUUUCAUUUUUCACUACAUCAAUGACACAUUUGAUUAUGACUAAUAUUAUUCACCUUUAACAAUUUUAGACUUGUUGGAGAUAAUGAUAGUAAUUAAGGUGGAGACUUGGAUGAUACAAAGAGAACCAAUAGCUUUAUAUUCCUCAUGGGAGAGAUACCAUGUUCACUUGGACUUCAAAGAAGCAACCUAUUGUGAAACUUUCAACCUAUGAAGUGGAAUUUCUGAAAAUGUUUACAAAAUCUCAUAAUCAAAUUGUGAAAAUGUUUACAAAGAGUCUCAAGUUUAAUGAUUUUAGAAUGCAUGAGUGAAAAUGUUGACAAAGUUUAAAAUUUUUAGAAAACUAAGGAUGUUAUUUUUACUAACCAAGUUGAAGGGAGGAUGUUAGUUAAACUGGAUUUAGGAAGUUUCUAAAAAUUAGAAUUUGAGUUAGAUUCUAAAAUGCUUGAUUUAGUUUGUAUAUUUGUUAUUACAAGAUUUUAUAUUUUACCAUUAUGAGUAUCUAUUUUUUUUUAGGUGUUAAUACCUAUAAAUAAGAUGUUAUGUAAUAGUUGAACAAGAGUGGUGGAAGACAAUAAAUUUUUUCUUAAUCAUCUCAAUUAUUUAAAUAUCUCCCUUUACACAUGUAAUUACUUGUGUAUUUUUUUUCAACCAUAUUACUGCAACAUAUGUGAAUCUGUUGGUUGGUCUAUGAAAAUUUAUAUCAGUUGUUCAACCUUUUAAAUUUAUAUGUAACGGUAUUUAGAUCACAGGAUCUUUCCCUAAGCCCGCAUUUUUCUAAAUAUAUAAUUAAAAUUGUUGUGUUUGCAAUUUUAACGAAAUCUAGCGUUGGAUACUUAACUACAUCCCACAAAACGACAAAAAAAAUGGUGGCGAUUUCAUGGAGGCUAACCAUUCACUUGCCUUUAGCCAAGUCGUGUUUCAACAGUAAAGUAAUUAUCUCAAUCAAAACACAAAAUUUAGUUUUCUAAACAAUUAUUGUUCUUGGAAAACAUGCAAGGAACUUAAGCAACUUAAGUGCCAACAUCUGCUCUCUCUCUCUCCAGCAUGCAAUCGUAAGUGGUAGGCACCUCUUUUAUGCUUUAAAUUAAUUGAAUACUUGAUCUUAUUCCGUCAUUCUUUUGGGUCUAACCCAAAAAUACAUUUACCAUGCCUUCUUUUCAUGUCCUCAACUUACUCAAAAGCUCAUAAGUCCCAUUGGAUAUGAUGUACUAAGUUUCAGAUUUUUGAAGUAAAAUUAUCAACAUUGUCUAGCAUAUAUAGUAAUAGGUUAUACUCUUUUCAACAAUUUAAAUUGUUUUUGUUAAUAGAUUAUAUGGAUGUUUUAACACUCAAAGAAAUUGAAAUGAAGCCAAAUAUGCAAAAAAAAAAAAAAAAAAAUGGUUGUGACCAAUAGUUAUAUUUAUUCUCUUUAAUUUCUAUUAAUACUCAAAUUUUUAGGGAUAGAGCAUCAACAAUCCUUGUGAUGAGUUAAUAAUGUUGAGAAAAGUCAAUGACUACACAAUGUAGAUUAAAACCAAAUAUGUCAUCAAAGAAGACAUCAAUAAUAACCCCACACAAUGAUAUGUUGUAUAAUUCAUUACUUGUAUCAAACACAAAUUUCCUUCAAUGUGUGUAUAUGAAUAAAAGAGACUUCUUAGUUUAUAUUUGACAUACAUGCUAUAUAGGCCAUGCUAAUAGCAAUUGAUAACAAGAAUCUCAACACUGAAGUCCAUGUAGAAUCAGGUGUGCACCAUAUUGGGGUUACAUAGUUAGGAUAUUGAAAGAAGCAUGAGUAUAGGAUGGUGAAAGUUCAAAUGAGAAGUGUUAUAAGAUCAUUGCCAAAGCUAUUUUUGCCUCCAUCAUUGCAAAAUUUUGUCCAAUGCAUACCCGAGGACCCCAACCAAAUGGGAAAAAUGAAACUUGGUUUUUUGUUACCUUUAAAACUCCUUCUACAAACCUCUUUGGAUUAAACUCCUUUGCAUCAUCCCCCCAAAUUUCAUGAUCAUGGUGAACUAGGAUGGUGGGCAACACGACCUGCAAUCCAGUUGGAAAACACAUGUCUCCCACUUGAGUGUCCUUAUAAACAACUCUAGGAAGCAUUGCUAUUGGUGGGUAUAACCUAAGAACCUCAUGAAAAAUCAUGGUGACCUGUGGUAGAGAAACUUUAGAAGUUGUUGCAAGAGAAUUCUUACUAAAAUACAUUCUAAAUCAUUAUGAAGGACACUGAAGAAGAAAGCAAUUUCUUAAAAUAGUGAUGCAGAAGAGAAAAUGUUCUAAAUCAUGCAUGACAAAAUAUCAAGUAUGCAAAGGACAUUGCAUAUCCCAUGGAUAUAAUAACUUAAGAACCUCAUGAAAAAUCAUCAUAAUCUAGCAGAGAAAUUUGAAAUCAUGGCAUGAGAACCCGUUCCUAAGCUACUAAGUGAAAGCAAAUGUUUAGUAUAAGAUAUAAAAACUUAAGAGAAAUGUGUUUUCAAUUUUACUUCAAUUAUGGGGAAAAAAACCAGAGUACUAUACGAUUUUAGUGAGAAUCACUAAACUGAAGAUUGGACUAAGUACUCACAAUUUUUAGGUGAUUUAAUCCAUCAGCUUCCCAUUUUUUAUUCCCAAAAACCUGUAAAACCUCUUCUCUUGCACGAGCUUGCUAGUUUGGAUGCUCGCUUAGCAGGACCAUUGUCCAUACAAGCAAAACUGAGGUUGUCUUUUGGCCAGCAAGAUAGAAUAGUUUACACUCUUCAAUGACAUCCUUGACACUGAUUCUAAUCUUCUUGUUAUUUUGAUGUUCUUGAAUUUCUCUAAAAUUGGAUUCCAUUAGCAUACCUAAUAAGUCACUAUUAGUAGUUUCGCCAACCUUCAUUGCCUUCUCUCUUUUGUUAACGAUACCCCUCAACAAUGCAUAUACUUCUUUGCUUAUUUGCUUCAUCUUCCUGUUCGUCUUUGUGGGUAAAAACCUGUGCGCAUGUUAGUAAUUCUAGUAAAUAAAACAUCACAUGAAACACACAGACAUUAAUUCUUAUUUUCAUCCAUGCCUUCUACUUCUCCAUUAAUUUUUUGAAGCUUGUAUAAGGCUUCAAAGGUAGAAACUAUCAAGACAAUAACUAAUAGUUUCAUCUACACAUGUGUUGCAGUGGUAUCUCAUCAUCUUGAUACAAUAUCCUGUGAACAUAAGAUUGAGGAUACUAAACAUCAAUUAGUGAAACAUACUACUUUCUAAGUGUUAUACAAAAGAAGUAAUUGACUAAAAGGGGAUGAAAUGAUCUCAAAGUUGUAAAUCUAACAUCUCUUAUGCUUGACCUUGAAAAGUAAUCCAUUUUGAACAUAAAUUCCCUUCGAACAUAAAUUCCCUUCAACCUUGUUAACCAAACACACACUUGAGCAUUGUGAAACUUUCAACCUAUGAAGCGAAAUUUGUGUUGGCAUCAUUUGUAGGUCAUGAAAUUUGUUCAAGAAACUUAAUUUACCACACAAGAGACUGAUAAAGAUCUAUAUGGAUAUAAAAUCAACAAUUACCUUAUGAGAAAAAUCUAGUUCUCCAUGAUGGUGUUGAGUUUUGAAUUUUGCCUUAGUAUCUGCUGGAAUUUGAAUUUUGAAGUUAAAUUUUACAGCUGGAGUCUUGCACAAAAUCUGCAACAUCCAAAUAUUUUCUUGUUUUUAUUUGGUCAAGAUUUGGUUUCUAUUUUAUAGGAAGUAGUUGUUCAUCAUCUAGUAGCUUGAUUUUAUGCUAUUCUAAUGUUAUUUCAGUUACAAGCUCAUGUAUAAAUUCAGCACUCUUCAUCAAUAAAAUGUGUGUUCCAACAGUCUAAAAAUAUAUAUUCUGCAUAAGUGUUUUAAUUUAAGAUCAACAGAUGGAAGCCAACAAUGCAUUCCCUUACAAUUCAAAGUAUAUUCAAUUGAGCACCUUUCCUAUGAUUCAAAGGUUGCAUGCCCCCUCAACAAUUGAACCCAACAAGAGCACUCAAGUUGUGCAUGUCUGUAACAUCUUAAUUGCACUUUUCCCUACCACUAUAGUAGCAUAUCCCUUGGGUCACUCACCAUGCACUGUCACUCCCCAAAACCCACUCCAAGGGCAUGACGAUCUUUUCACGCCUCAACCCCAAGGGGUCAAAGUGGAAAUGACACAAACAUUCAUGUUGUAAUUGAAAAUUUACCAAUUACCAAAUUCCUAUUCAAGGUAGUAGGAUAAAAUUCUAAAAUCUCCAAGUAUCAACUUUAAAAAAAACUAAUACAUCAACCAAUGUGUUAUUGUCCAAAUAACUUCAAACUCAAAAUAAUUCAAACUAGAAUUAAGUUUUAACAUUUAAACAAUGUCCAAAAUAAAGAGAGUUUAAACAAAUAUCCUAAUAAAUCAAAAUUUCCUUCCUAACGGUCACUCCUCGCCCGAAUUGAGGUUGAUUGAAAGAUUAUCAACAAAGGGGGGUGAGCUCAAAGCCCAAUAAGGAACAUUAAUACAAUUUCAUGGAUCAAACAUUUUCAAUUAUGCUUGCAAAUAGAAGAUAUAACAUAUACUUAUUUUCACAAAAACUUUUGAGUUCAAAAUGCUAAUACAUUCAAACUUUUCAACAAAACUUUCUCAUAUCCAUUUCAAAACAAUUUCUCAUCAAACCAAAUCGAAUACAUUCAAAAUAUCUUUACUCCGGUUAUCAUAUGUCAAAUGGUACCCAAUUAGGAGGGACUUCACAAUUGAGUAACUAGUUUCAAAUUUGUUCCAUUUAAGGUGAACAAACCCAAAUGUCAACAAUCAUAACCCAUUGACUAAGGCCAUAAAGUCAACUAUUAUAACCGGUUGACUCGAGCCAUAAGGUCAAUUAUUAUAACCCGUUGACUAAGAUCAUAUAAUAUCAACUAUUAUAACCCGUUGACUAGGUAGGCCCGAAAAUGUCAACUAUUAUAACCCGUUGACUAGGGCCAUAUAAUCUAGAGUCAAAUACUUUAUUUCAUUAAUUCAAACUUAUAAAACAAAACAUCGUAUCUCCUCAAUUUUUCAUUUUUCAUAAACAAAGAAAAUACUCAAAUAUACUUUCCAUACAAAACAUAUAUUUGAUCCAUGCUUAAAUAUAAAAAUAAUAUUUUUACACAUUUCAAAAUACAAUAUAAAAAGAAAAUUAUUUUCUUUUACAAAAAUCUUGAAGUAUUUAACUUUGAAGGAAUUCCUCCUCACUCAACAUAAUAUCAUACACAAUAUUGAUUAUUGAUUAUUUAUCUAAAUGUAUAAAUUUGACAAUCCUAAAAAUAUUUUAUUUAGUAUUAGGGAUCCUAAUUAAUUUCUUAUGUUAAUAUUAUUUGCCAUCCAAUAUUAUUUUCAACUUCCUAAACAAUAAUUUAUUUCUCUUUUCUAACUUAUCUAAAUUAAAUAUUUUAAGAAUAUUUAUUUGCAUUAAACUAUUAUUACUAUUAUUUAAAUCUCCUAUUGAAACUUAACAAAUACCCCAUGCUAUUCUAUUUUUGUUCCCAACAACUCCACACCAACCUCAUUCAUUAUUAUUAUUAUUAUUAAUUUCAAUACCCAUCAACACCUUAAUCUAUUUCUCUUCCAAGCCAUCAACAUCCUUUUCUUUCUCAUUGUUUACCAAAAUACUAUUUACUUCCUUUCCUAGGUCAACGUGUUGGCCAUUUCUUUGUUUUUUUUUUUCUUUCAACAUGCCAAAUCCUUCCUACUUACACACAUCUUUCAUCAAAUUUUUUUUCUCCUCUCUAAAGUCAAAACUUUUAACCUCCAUACUCACAAAUUUUAUAUAAUUUUCACAUCCAAAACUAUAUAUAUAUAUAUAUAUAUAUAUAUAUAUAUAUAUAUAUAUAUAUUUGUCUAGAUCUAUUCGUUUGAGUAAUCAAAAUUUGUCGAUCUCCAUUAAUAAAUCAAACCAUGUUCAUAAAUUUUUAACAUUUUUUUAUCUAGAAAUUAAUUAAACGAACUCUAAUCAAAAUCGAGAUAUUCCAAAUAAUAUCUAAAGUGUUCAAAACUAAUUAAUGAAUAUAAAAUAUUAAUUUAAAGAUUAAAAAUCUUACUUGAAAAAUUGAUCUUCAAACCCUGAACCUCCAAAUCUUCAAUUGUAUGCUCUCUAAUCUUUAUGAUCUCUGUGUAAAAGGGUUUUCUGAAUAGAGAGGAUGGGAAAAAUCUAAUUUUUACCUAAGGGUUUUAAAUACCAAAAGACUUUUUUACCCUUAUUAAAUUACUUAAUUAAUUAUUAAUUUCUAAAUUAUGAUUUUACCCCUAAAUUGGGUUUGGGGCAUUACAUGCACACUAUUCCCACUCUUGCAAAGGUUGAGCUCUUGAGAAAACUUAUUACAAUUAUUUGGAUAGGAUUUUUUAGGUAGUUUCCUAUUUCUUUCUAUAUAUUUGCCUUAUUUUUGUAGGUUUCCUACAAUUAUAUAUAUAUAGGAUAUUUUCUCUUCUUUUCUCUAUGAACGAAUAUAUGACUAGGUAAAAUUAAGCUAUAGGUUUCUUAAUGGUAUCAAAGCCAACUUCUUAUUACUAGGAAUAAUGGUUAAAAUAGCAAUGAUAGGUGCUUCCAAUUAUGAUAACAACUUGAAGGAGGCAGAAAGAAAACCUAUCCCUCGUUAGAAUUUUGUGACCAAUGGUCAUGGCACUCUUCUUAGCUAAUUACCUCUCACAAAUUAACUUAAUGGAGAAAAUUAUCUUUAAUGGUCUCAAUUUGUCAAACCUUUCAUUUGUGGGCAUGGACAAAUUGAAUAUUUUAUUAGAGCAACAUCAAUACCACAAGGAACAAUUCUCAUCGAGACAUGGGAAGUAGAGAAGGCCAUGAUUAUGUCAUGGCCGAUCAACUCAAUGGAACUCAAGAUUAGGAAGACAAACAUGUUCAUGCCCAUAACUAGAGAGAUUUAAGAGGUUACAAAGGAAAACUAUUACAACUUGAUAACUUGCCUAGGUCCACAAGAUAGUCAUACAAAUAAAAUACCAACCAAGGUAAUAUGAAUGUAAUUCGGUACUAUAAUACACUCAAACCCCUUUGGUAAGAACUUAAUUUGUUCUAUGAUUAUGAAUAACAUUGUGCACAAGAUAGUGAAAUGUUCUAAAAGAUGAUUGAGAAAGAUCGAGAAUUUGCAUUCCUAGUGGGGUUUAAAUAAUAAAUUAGAUGAGGUUUAAAGUAGAAUUCUUAGUUGUGAAUAAUUCUAGCAAAAUCUGAUACCUCUUUACUUAACACUACCCUAGCUAUAAAAAACAGUAAGCUUCACAUUUCGACCAAUGAUCCAAAAUUCAAAAGGAUCCACAGAAGGCCCUAGUGUGACCAUCAUCUCCUCUAAAUGCUUCUAGAAUUCAAAAUAUCCAUUGACAAGUGAUUAACCAUCAUCUUUUCCAAAUGCAUCCUUAGAUGUCAUAUACCCAACGGUGUUCAAAUUCGUAAGAUAUGACUAAGUCUAGAUAUUAAGAAGAAGGUAUAUCAUCCUCUACCAUUAGAAAGAAGAAGAUAUAUUAUCCUCUACUAGUGAAAGCACAUAUGCCAUCAUCUCAACAAAUCAAGCAUGCGUGAAAAUCUGUCUUCUUAGUCUUUUAAUUGCGGUCAAGAAAAUAUUAAGGAAGUACUUAAUUUGAAGCAUCUCUUCAUCAUCUAUAGUGGUUGUAGUUGCCAAUCCAAUAAUUGUACUCCUUUGAAAGUGGUACAAAUUAUUCUUCCUUAUUCCUUGCAUCACCACAAGUUUACUUGGCAUAACUUUCAAAAUCCCAUCUUUUAUAGUGACAAUAUUGAACCCUAUGGGUUCUAAUUCUCCCAUUGAGAUGAGACACUUAUUCAUACUAGGAACAUACCAAACAUCAUUCAAAAUUUUAGUUAAUUCAUCAUGAGUCUUCAAAUGGAUGGUAUCUAUUAUAGUUAUCUCACAAGCAUUAUCAUUCCCCAUGUAAACAACUCUAUCUUAUAGUUCUUCAAAGCAAUAAAACCACUCCUUUUACAGGAAUGCAUGUGAAGGUGGACCCAAUAUCCAAAAUCCAUUCAUCUAAGUUAUAAAACAAGUAUAAGCAAACCAAAGCAAAGUUUAACCCAUCUUCUCCAAACUUAGCCACACAAGCAUCAAAUACUAUCUCUUCUUUAUUCUUCUUCUGUAGCUUAGGACAAUCAUUAUUCUGACACUACCAAAAUUAAGCAUGGUUGAUCCAUUUAUAUUUACUUUUGCGAUAGAUUUAAGCUGACGCAAAUUUCUAACACACCUAUUCCACUGCAAAUUGAAUUAUCCGUCGCUUAUAUGUAACUAUUUACCAAUGGUAAUUGCAAUAACAAAUACCUGUUAGCAAAAAUAUUAUUGCAAGGGAUUUAAACUAUUGCAAAUGUUCAACUAAUAUACUUUGUCACAAAAGCAAUUUACCUGUUUUUUUUUUUUUUUAUUUUAAAAAAAGUGAAAUUUCAUAAAUAAUUUUUUUAAUGAAAAUUACUACUCACUAAAAUAGUUUUAUUAUAGUGGAUAAUAAUACCACACAUAAUUUGUUCCAAAAAUAAUUGUUGUCUUAUGAAUAUAAAAUCUUUUCACCAUAGUUGUAUGAUAAAUACGAUCUAGCUAGUGACAAAACAAUUUUAUGAUUAUUUUUUUAGGUUCAUACAAUAUUUACAUUUUUUUUAAUCAUAAUAGUUUUAACAUUUUAAUAUUUUUUAACUACUUUUUAUUGUCCAUUUUAGAAAGAAAUAAAUUAAAAAUUAUUGAUAUAUAUAUAUAUAUAUAUAUAUGUUUGUAUGUAUGUGUGUAUGUAUGUAUGUAUGCAUGUAUGUAUAUAUGUAUGAUAUAAUUUAUGAUAUCGAAUAAUAAUAUUUAAAAUUUUAAAAUACAUUUUAUAGAGAUUUAUCUAAUUUGAAUGUAUUCAAUAACAUAAAAAAAAAAUGAUAGUACAUGUAUAAGUAUUUUUAUUUUAAAAUGUUGAUAAUUUUAUUUAUAAAUUUAAAUUUAUUCUAUAUUUAAUUAUUAUACAAAAUACACAAGAAUCAUAAUUAAUUAAUUUAUAAUAAUUUAUAUAUAUAUAUAUUAAUUCAUGCAUGUAUAAUUUAUAUAUGAUAUGUAUUUAUAUAUAGAUAAUAUUUAUAACAUAAAUGCAUAAGGAUACAAUAUUUACAUUUAUGAAUCUUAUAUGCAUUCUUUAUAUUGCACAUAACAAAGUUGAUUUGGUGGCACAGUUGCUUCCUUUCAAACUUGAGGUCAAGAGUUCAGUCUCGAGAAACAGCAUCCAAGCCAAUAUCCAAAACUAGCAAGGAGAGGAGUGUUCAAGAUGCUCCAUGUGAAUGUAAUGAAAUCGAAAUUUCAUGACAACCUAAAAUCUUUUAUUAUUUACAUUUCUCAACCAACUUAAUCCAUCGGUAAUAGUGAUGGUAAAAAUCUAUUGGAUAGUUUUUCACUAAAUAUUUUUUAUUGGCAGUGGAAAAUUCCCAUCGAUAGACUUUUUGCCUACACUCCUUUCCUUGACUACCAUGCAACGGGAUUAUCGGUUGGUAAAUGUUUAUUUAGACCAUGUAUAUCAGUUGAGAAAAGUCAAAUUUCUUGUAGUGUGAUGACCCUUGUCAUGAAAAAGGACACAUUCAUCUUUUGCAAGUAUACAUUUAAAUUAAGAACUGUCUCAUUUUCUAGGUUUUCAACUUUGAGAUUAGGCAUUAACUGUUAAAGCUUCCAAUGAUAUAUCUCUAUGAUUGUUUUGGUCCUUCUUCCUUUAUUCAGAGCUUAGCAAAGUGGAACGCACAACAUCAAAAGUAAUCUUAUCCUUACCAUAAAGUAAAGUGAUGGUAAGAUUUUCUUACACAUCAAGAAGCAAAUUCAAUAACAAUAAGGCCUUAUUCUCAUCUUCAAUGAUCUAAUCUAAAUUCAAAAAAUUUGCUUUGAUUCUAUCAAAUUCAUGCAUAUGAUCAUUCAUAGACAUAUCUAGUUGAUACUAGAAGCAAAUAAGUUUUUUCUUCAAAUAUAGUUGAUUUUCUAGACCUUUUUUCAUUUACUUGUCCUCCAAUGUCUUCCAUAAAUGUUUUUGUGGAUAUCUCUUUCAUAAUGGAAUAAUUUUAAGCAUUAACAAGAAAUAAGUGGAUGGAACUAUAAAAUUGACAAUUGAUCCCUUACUCAUUCUUUGUCAUUCAUGUUUUCAGGUUUUUCUUCCAAAACAAUAUCCAAUUCUUAUUGACAUAUCUAAUUAAUGCCUCUUACUACCACAUUCCAAAAGUACUAGUCCUAUCAAAUUUCACAUUAGUAACCAGAGUUUUAACUAACGAAGUUUUUACCUUUUCUUUUAACUAGUGAAAUAACAAAUAACCUUGAACUAUCUUUGAAACCAACCUUGGAUAGAACUAAGGCUCCUAUACCAUUUUUUUUUUGUGCUUUAACCUAAUCCCACAAGACUUCCAAAAGUACCAAAUAAAAUACAAACUAAACUAGUCCAUAAUAUAAAGAUAAAUAGCAAGAGAAAUAAAAAUAAAAGAGGGUACACAAUAUUUAUGAGGUUUAGUAAGGAUGUCUUACCUAUAUCAUCGGACAAUGAUGAUCAAUCCACUAAUCUUCAAAUCAAAAUUACAAAAUCAAGUUGGGAAAGCUUAUCUCACAAAGUGGAUGCAACUACAAAGAUUGACUGAAGCUACUCUAACAACUUUGCUAAAGUCAUUCUCACACUACUAUAAUGAAAGGACUUAGACUCAUUUAUAGAACCUAAAUAAGUCCCCAAGCCUUGACAAAACUAAUUCAUAAUUCCUAUGGGACAAGGACUCCUAACAUAUAACAAAUUAUGAAAUCAUAAUCCUUAUAGGACAAGGAUCCCUAAAAUAUAUUAAACUCUUAAUUGAGCUAAAAGCCAAUACCUAAUAUAGAACCCACACCAUAUUUGCCAUAACUCUACUAAGUAGCUGGUUGUUAAGCAGAAUUAUCACUUUCAAAAGUUAAAUAAGCAUUUCUUUUUCCUUCCCUUUUCAUUUUUCUUAUCAUCCAAACAACAACAAUAAAAAAUUUAGUGUAACUUUUUGCUUUGAUACUUGUUCUCUCAACUUGCUUGCUUGUGAAUGACCUCCAUAAUCAAAUUAAAUGGAGAAAUAAUGUGGAGUUCCAAGAUAUAGGUAGAAAAGAGUGGACAAAACCCUAGAUCUACAAAAUAGCUAGCAAUUUUGUCUCUAGAUCUCUCAUUGUUGUGGUAAUGGCCAUUGAAGAUGUCAUCACUGAGAAGAUCACAAAGUGAAGAAGGCAUGAUUGAGGGUUGGUAGAGUAGAGAGUUAAGGUAGAAAAUAGCAAAGAUAGGAUUUUGACGUUUUUAGAAUUUGUACAUAAAAAAUAAAUACAAUCCAAAAAUCACUUUGAGAACAUGAUUUUACCUAACCAUGCCAAACACAUUUUUUGUUAUGUGGAAGUGAUAGAAGCGAGAUCAUGCUAGGGUUUUAGAGCCAAAGAGGAUCGGUUGGCAAUGGUGGUGUAGACCCUCCAUUUUGUCCCCCUAGCACACGCCCUAUUAGGUGAUCUUUUAGUAUGCUAUAGUAGUUCCUGGGUAGCCCACGUUACUCGUACAACUAACCUUUUUGAGUCACCUCGAAGACUCUGGUCAAGGGAUUUAUCCGACCCCUUAUUGUGGCCUAGGAUUUUCCUUUCUUUUUUGGACAACUCAUUUAGAUACACUUUUAGGAUAACAUAUCUAGGCACACUCGACCCAUUUAGAUGCACUUGGCCCACUUAGGCUCACUUAGGCCCACCUAAGCUCACUUGGGCCCAUUUUGGCGCGCCUUGAUCCACUUAGGUUUACCUAGUCUUGCUUAGGCCACCUUUUAGAUAUGGUUGCAUGGCUUGUAUGACUAGCAUGUGCUUGAUUUUAUUUUUUUUAUUAGUUUUAUUCAUUUACUUCUUCAUUAUUUAGAAAAUUGCAUGAGAAUUGAGAUUUUAGUUUUUCCUAAUUGCUUGAAUUGAUAUUUCAUAUAUAUUUAUAUAUUUAAUUUAUUCAUUUACUUAUUUUUGUAGGAAAUUGCUUGAGCUUCAUGAUUUUAAUUCUUUUAAUGCGAUUGAUAUUUUAGUUUUAAUUACAUAAUUUUAAUUUUUGAUUUUCAAUUACAAGAUUUUUUUUUUAUCCUACUUUUUAAGUUUUUCAAAUUUUACUAUUUUAUUAUUAAUAUAUGGUUACUAACUUCUAUUUUCUUUUGUUUUAUAGAGAGGAUGUCACUUUGAAAGGUGAACUUACCAUUUUGAAAAGGAAAAGAACCCUAUGAGCUUCACUUUUAAAGAACAUGAUUCCAUACAUUGUUUGAGGAUUAAUUAAGUGGGCAGGUUGCAUAAUUCUCUGUAGGCACAUAGACCUAGACAUUCUUUUUAUUCUUAUUAUUUCCUUGAUUUUCUACUCUUCCAUAUAUUCUCUGCAGGCUGCCAUGUAAAAAUGGAAACAUGUUGCAUAUAAGAGCAAGGUCAACACACAGCCAAAGGAAAGGGUGGCAUACCUACCAUACAGUAGGCAUUCAGAAUCACAAUUGGUGGAAUUUUUAGAAGGAUGAUCAACUUGCCGUUCUGAAUAUGGCAGAACGCUAAAGUGAAAUAAGGAAUGAGAUAUUCGGUUAAGGAAAAUUGAAGGAUUUUGGAAGGCUGGUCAAAGGGACAUUCAGGAUGUUUUUGGAAGGAAGACUCUUCAAGCAAGAUCCAGCAGCACACAAUAAUCAAGAGUGGGGUUUUAUCUUUGGGAAAAGCACACAGCACACGCUGGAUGGGGGAUUUUUCUCCAGCAGACACAAUUGAAGAUUUUCUUGAAGGUAGUAUAGACACACUACCAUUGGGGAUUUUUCUGGUGACACACAUCAUAGAGGCUUUUCCAACAGGCAUGCACCAUAAGUUUGCAAAAUCGACCAUGCUGCCAGAUUUUUAGAGCAGCAACUGCACUGCCAGAUUUUUAGAGCACGCACAUGGGGUUAAAAAAAAAAUAAAAAAUUUCCCCACACAGACUAACCACCAAGAAUUCAUCUUCAUUGGGACACACUUUCCACAGAAAAAUAAAUAGAACCAGUUGCCAUCCACUUUGGAGAGGAAAGCGGCCUACACCUUUGGACUUCGAAACAGCCCCCAUGCAUUAUUGAAAAAGGUAAGUUAAAGCUUUUUUAUUUAAUUUUUUGAUGCGUGAAUAUUAAUUUCGUAAUGGUUUUAGAAUUUUAGUUUUUUUUUAUUUAAUUAAUUCCAUGUCGAUAUUUUCAUCUAUGUGCUUUAGAUUUUUUUAUUUUAAUUAAUUCCAUGUUGAUAUGUUGGUGUUUUCAUAUUUUUAAGUUUAGUUUUUUUCAAUUCGUCCCAUUUAGUUCAAAAGUUUUUAGGUUUUGUUUUGUUUUUUUUUUUUUUUAAUUUAUUAGGUUAUUUGUUUUAUAAGAAAACAUGUGUGAACUUUAAGAUUUCAAUUAGGUAUGUGAAAUGUGGCAGAUUAUUAGAUAUGUUAGCGGCUUGAAUUUAAAAAUAAAAGAGUUAAUAAGUGAAUGUGAAUUGUUGUGAGAUGUUAACUUAGUGGUUUGACUAAAGAAAGAAAAAUCAAUGAAUUGAAAUAACACAUGUUGCCAUGGAUUGAUUGGUGUUGGUGGCCUAGUAAAAUAUAAAAACCAAUGAACUGAAAUAGUGCAUGCCAACCUUGGAUUUAUUUGUGUUAGUGGUAUUUGUUGAGUGAAUAAAAAAUAAAAAUUUGUUUAGGAAUGUUUGGUUAAUUAAUUUAGUGAAUCUCAUGUUUGUGUUUGUGUGUUUCCGAAUUCUUUAAUUUUGAUUUUAAUCCAUUAAUAUUCAAUUUUGUAGUUGAUUAUAAUUUUAGUUAGCUAAUUGAGUUAAUAAAAUGUUAUUAUUUUCCUGUUUUAAGUUUAGUAAUUUUAAUUUUGAUCUAUUAAUAUUUAGUUUGAGUGUAUUAGAGUUUUAGUCAAUUAAUUUAGUUAGUCACAUGUUAUUAUUUUCAUGUUUUAAGUAUGGUAAUUUUGGUUUUGAUCUAUUAAUAUUUAGUGUGAGCUUUUUGUAAUUUUAGCUAAUCAAUCUAGUUAAUUACAUAUUAUUGUUUUCAUAUUUUCAAGUUUGUUAAACUUUGGUUUUUGAUUCAUCAUAUUUUGUUUGAGUGUUAAUUUACUUUAAUUGAUCCUAUGUUAUUAUCUCCAGAUGUUAAGUUUGUUGGUUUUAAUCCUUGAUUGGUUUUUAUCUUAGUUCAUGCACUUCUUGAAUUCUAGAUGUUAGUCUUGGUUAAUAUUUUUGUUAGUUUGUUUAAUUUGGAAGUCAUUAAUUUGUUGCCUUAGUGAUUGAUAGUCAAAUCCUUUUUUUGAAGGCCAUUGGAAACCCAUGAAGUGUGGACCAGUAUUUUUCACGUUUGUCCCCACUCAAACAACGAGACUUGCUUUUAUUUGUGAAAAAUUAAUUUUUGGAAAAGUCGAAGUCGCCAAUUAUUUUAUUUUUAUUUUAAAGUGAAAAUAAAACAAGAAAGAAAACCCUAAAAGGUGACUUCAUAAUUUUUGGAAAAAGUGUCUUUGAAAAACCCGAGUCUAUGUCUGGGGAUCAGGUUACCUAUUGGGAAAGUACCUCUAAAAGGUAGCACCCCUCUAAGCCCUAUAAAGGUCUCUACUAACUACUUUGAGGGAAAUAUGACAAUUAACUGGUUAAUCAUGGAUACUUAAGUAGGCUAGGUGAUUUUGAAAAAUAGCAUGCUUAAUAGGAAAAACAAUCACAAUCAUAAGAAGAUUUAGGUUGUGUACCUGGACUGCUUCUUAAGCGCUAUCACAAGACAUCAAAGUUAGUUCAAAUAGUAUAUCAUCCAACACAUGCGUUUUAUUAGAAAUAAUCGAACAAUGAAACAUGUAUAUCAAAACACUAAAGCACUAUCAAACAUAGGCAUAAUUCACAAUGACAAGCAUAUUCACAGAAUCUAGAAAGUGGGUGAUAGGGGGGACAUACUUGGAUAGCAUAGAUAACUCAUUAUACGCUUCCUCAUGACAUAAGGGGUUCAAUAAUAAAUAAUAAAAUAAGAAAUCCUAGCAUGCUUAAUAUCUAAUUAGCAUAACCAAAAUUAUCAUAGUAUACAAAAGCAUCAAUUAUCACUUACAUCUUGAAUAUAAUUCCUAAAAAAUAAAUAGACAUGAUUACAACAAAUAGCAAGAGUGGUAGCAAAAAUAAGUUUUGAAAAGAUUUUCUUAUGUAGGGGUUUCACCAAUUCCCCAAUCGAUAUACACGAAUUUAGCCUAAAAUUAUCCCAUUCAUUUGGGACCACAAGCUUUGAUUUGUGUUUUGUUCAAAACAUAAAUUUUUAUUGAAAACCGAGAAGGAUGCAGACCGAUCAAGAUAUGGUUGCAUAUUUUAUUUUUAUUUUUUAAAAAGAGAUUUUGAUUCGAUAGACUCAAAAUGAAUUUUCUUUUUGAAUAGAUUUUUUAAAAGGGAUUUUUUGAGAAAAAGUGUUUUGUUUUAAAAUAAAAGAAAUUAAUUUUUAAAAUAACAAAACAUAGAAAACAAAAUACCAACCCAAACAAAAGGAAAUGAAAUCACAAAAUAAAGAUUUAGACAAUCAUGCCAAUUAAAAUGGUGAGAGUAAGGCCAACCUUCAUGAGUUUCUAGUAGCCUUCAAAAAAAGAAUUUGACUAAUAAUCACUAAGGCAACGAACUAAUGACUUCCUAAUCAAACAAACCAAUAAAAAUAUUAUCCAAAACUAACAUCUAGAUUUCAAGAAACACAUAAUAAAAAAAGAACAAUCUAGGAUUAAAGUCAACAAACUUAGCAUAUGGAGAUAAUACUAUAGGGUCAAUUAGGGUGAAUUAACAUUCUAACAAAAUAUGAUAAAUCAAAGACCAAAGUUUAGCAAUCUUGAAAAUAUGAAAACAAUAACAUGCAAUUAACUAGAUUGACUAUCCAAAAUUGCUCAAAACUCGAACUAAAUAUUAAUAGAUCAAAACCAAAAUAUGGCAUACUUAAAAUAUGAAAAAUAAUAACAUGUGAUUGACUAAAUUAAUUAACCGAAACUCUAAAAAUACUAAAACUAAAUAUUGAUGGAUCAAAAUUAAAAUUGUCAUAUUUAAGACAUGAAAAUAAUAACACGUGAUUAAAAUCAAAAUUAACGAAAUCAGAAAAAGCACAAACACAUUCAAACUAAAAAAAAAAAAAUUAAUACUAGAUUAAAUUAGAACUAAAAACAUCAACAUCAUCUAAUAAGAUUGGUUAAACUAUCAAAUAGAAAUUGCAAAUACAUUUAAACUAGAACAAAUAAAUAAAUCAGCAAAUUACAACUAAACUAAAAUUAGAAUUAAAAAUAUGGAAUUCACUUAAGAGGAUUAAUCAAAUAAUUAAAUUAAAAUCAUAAAUGCAUUCAAAUUAUAAAAUAUUAAAAUUAAACUAAAUUGAAAUUAAGCUCUAUCUAAUAAGACUAUUUAAACUAAUGAAUUAAAAUCAACAAAUACAUUUAAGCUAAAAACAUAUUAAAACCAAACCAACUAGGAUUAAAAACACAAACUUUAUUUAACACGAUUAUUUAAACUAAUGAAUUAAGAUCAGUAAAUGCAUUUAAACUAAAAACAAAUUAAGAUCAAACUAACAAGAAUAAAAAAACGCAAACUUUAUUUGACACAAUUAUUUGAACUAAAGAAUUAAUAUCAACAGAUGCAUUUAAACUAAAAACAAAUUAAAAUCAAACAAAUUGGAAUUAAAAACAUAAACUUUAUUCAACAUGAUUAUUUAAACUAAAUAAUUAAGAUCAACAAAUGCAUUUAAACUAAAAACAAUAUAAAAUAAAACUAAUUGGAAUUAAAAACACAAACUUUAUUUGACAUGAUUAUUUAAACUAAAGGAUUAAGAUCAACAAAUGCAUUUAAACUAAAAACAAUAUAAAAUCAAACUAAUUGGAAUUAAAAACACAAACUUUAUUUAAAGAAUUAAGAUCAACAAAUGCAUUUAAACUAAAAAAAAAUUAAAAUAAAACUAAUUGGAAUUAAAAACACAAACUUUUGUUUGACAUGUUUAUUUAAACUAAAGGAUUAAGAUCAACAAAUGCAUUUAAACUAAAAACAAUAUAAAAUCAAACUAAUUGGAAUUAAAAACACAAACUUUAUUUAACAUGAUUAUUUAAACUAAAGAAUUAAGAUCAACAAAUGCAUUUAAACUAAAAAAAAAUUAAAAUCAAACUAAUUGGAAUUAAAAACACAAACUUUAUUUAACAUGAUUAUUUAAACUAAAGAAUUAAGAUCAACAAAUGCAUUUAAACUAAAAACAAAUUAAAAUCAAACUAAUUGGAAUUAAAAACACAAACUUUAUUUAAAUUAUCAUAUAAAUUAAGAUAAACUAGGAUGGAACUUAUGAACUGCAAUCACAAAAAGAAGACAUCUAAUUUAAGAAAAAUAAAAAAAAUUAUACGAAUUGAUAUUCAAAAGAAUUUAUCACAAAAAAAUUGAUUAAACUAACGAACUAAAAUCUAAACUAAAAAAUGCUCUAUCGAAAACGAAAACUAACCUGUGUUGUGUUUGAAAAAAUACUCUCUUGAUGAUUAAAGUGGCAGCCCGAUCUCCUUCUAAAGUCCUUUGCUCUCCUCCAAAAUUCCGUGUGUUCUCUCUAAAAAAGUUCCCUCGCAUGUUCUCUCUAUCUCAAAAAUUCUCUUGUGCGUGUCCUCUCUUUUAAAAAAAUAUCCACAUGUUCUCUCUACCAAAAAAUUCCUCACUCUGGAAUUCCUUCGUGUGUCCUCUCUAAAAAAAUUGCUCUUGUGUGUCGAUCUCCAAAAAAAUCUCCCCUCUCUUCCAUUCCUUCUAUCUUAUUUAUAUAACAGCCCACCCUAUGGAAUAUUUUAUUUCCUUUUUGGAGAUGUACUUCUAACCUUAAAGGAGACCCAACUUUCUAAACUUCUAAUGGCACUUUCUAUUUCAACUGACUUAAUAAAAGAAACAUGCCAACCCAAUGAAUGUUGUCUGAUGGGCCCUUGGUCAUAUUCCCCUUCUCUCUUCCAACCAACAACACCUGUAACUUGUAAAGUUGCAUUGGGGACUAGUUUAUCUGAAAGCUUGGAUGAGAAUGGAGACCGAACUCCUUCUUAGGUAAUGUAGAGCUUCAAAAUUUCUAGAGAAAGAUUUUAUGGAUAACCAAAGUCCAUGAUUUCAUCCAAUAGCUCAUAAAUCAGAACAAAGUUGUUACGAAUAGCAUCUUCAUCGAAAGCCCCACCGAAAUAAGAUUUGAACAAUGCAACAGGCUCAGCAAUAAACUUGAAUGCACAAGUUACAUUGGCAUUGCUACUGACCACAAUCAUAAUGUACACAUUGUUGAUUCUCAUAUAAAAGGAGUAACCUCCAAUCUACCGCAUAGGACAUGUGCUAAGUUCUUUUGUUUGCAUUAUAUGCAUUCGAAAGGCAUUCACCAUGUUUCCCCUAACAUCGUCAUGAUAUAGGUAAUUGAUGAGGACAUCGCCCCGGAGAUUCAAGAAAUAGAUAGCCGAAAUAGCCAUUGACAUCUCCGAUCUAGUGGAUCCGAUGCCAAACAGAUCAAAGAAUGGGGUUCAGAUAUGCGGUGGUUGAGGCCUUGUUUCAACGACGUCGUUUUGAUUGGGUUAGAUCUCAAGCUUUGGAGAUGAUGAACUCAAAUCUCCCAAAUGAGAGUUGCAGUCAAUGCUAUUGAUCUUGUGUUCUAAAUGCAGUGUGGGCAAUAACCCUGACGGAUCUAUAAUAGCAUCUAGGGUUCUGACGCGGGAGAGGUGGAGAAAGGGACGACGACUGUGGUAGGGAUUCACGAUGGGGGGAGAGGAAAGAGUGGUAAGAAUGUUCUUACUGGAGAUAUCGAGGCAAGAGAGAAGAGCUCGAGGGGAAGGAUCGCGGUCAAUGAAGGAGGUGAGGAUAUGGGUACCGUCCUCGACUACAGCGCGGAAGGAGAAGAAGAGAUUAGGUACAGAGGUCAAGUAGUAAAAGUGGAGGCAGAGGAUUGGUCAUGGCGUGAGAUGGAGCUAUGAGGCGAGUCUUCCAUUUCUAUUUUCUCUGCGAGUGUAUAUGGGUCCCCCACCUUAUAGGCUGCUUCUCUUCAACAGUGACUCCCCUCUCCUUGAUCGCUUCAAGUGACAUGCAAAAUUAAAAAAAUAAAAUUGGAAUAAGAAAAUCCUAUGAUUGGAAAUAUAAUAUAAUAAAAUAAAAAAUCAAAUCAUAUGCCAUAAAAAAUCUAAGAUGUCAAUUCAUGGAAUUAAAGAAUGUAUAAAUAAGUGAGUAAAUAAACAAAUAAAUUGACAAGGGUAUAAAAAUAAAUAUUAGACGUAUGCCAUUAGAAAAAAUCAAGAAAUUAAAUUAAUGUAACGGAUCAUAACAAUUUAAAUAUCAAACUCAAACCCUAAAAAAAAUAUAUAUAUAUUCAUUUAAUGCAAUAUAUAGUUAAGCCAAUACUCAUUUUGUCUCGAAAAAAUAAAAUCAAGAACAUGCCUAAAUGAACUAUGCCAAAAGAAGUGUCUAAGUGACCUAUUCUGAAAAAGUGCUUAGGUGGCCUCGGGUGAAUGUGUGAAAGUUGAAAAGUGUCUAGGUGAAUCUAAAUGGGUCAAAGGGAACCUAAAUAGGCCUAAGGUGGUGCCUAAUGGGCCAAGUGUAUCUAAAUAGGCUUAGGGUAAGACUAGGUGGGCCUAACUAAGUCUAACCUAAAGUGCACCUAAGUGAAACUUAAUCUAAACUUGAAAGACAACCAAGAUAGUAAUGUGGAACUGGAUAAACCCCUCAACCAAAGUCUCAAAAGUGGCCCUGAGAAGGUAAGCUACAUGAGUAGGAAUGGCCCAUCAUGUGCUAAAGGGACAAAAUGGAGGGUCUACAAAUAUGCCCCUCUUCGGUAGAGAUCACGAGUGUAGAGAAUGUGAGUUGAAAUAUGAAUAAUGAGUGGAACGAAGUGAACUAUAUUGAAGAACUAAAGAAGGACCAGAGAUUUUGUCUUAGCACAUGACGAGAGUAAGAUUAGAACACGGGGCUGCAACGACAAUGAUGGAACAACUAUAUGUGGGAGGAAUGACAGUAAAGAGGUAAAGGUAUGUGAUGAGUAGCACAAAGAUAGAAAGGGAUAAAAAGAAUGACUAAAGGUCAUGGAUGAGAUAAAUGACUCUGGGUUGUGAGCUUAGGGCUCUAAAUGGAAAAAAAUGACUUUGGGUUGUGAGCUCAAGUCUCUAAAUGGAAAACAAAUGACUUUGGGUUGUGAGCUUAGGGCUCUAAAUGAAAAUAAUGAAUAUGGGUCAUAAAUAAGAAGAACGACUCUAGGUCAUGAGCUCAGGGCUCUAAAUGGAUAGCUGAUCAGGAUGCUUUUCGGCUCAUGGUGUCGGGUCGAGGCCACUCGCAAGUGGCUAGAAUGGUGAAAACAAAACAUCUCAAGGAUGUGAAGGAUGCAAAUGACUUUAGGUCAUAAGCUCAGGGCUCGGGAUGCUAUGAAUGACUCUAGAUCAUGAUACAAUGGGAAACUUAGGGUUACAAUGAAUAGCUUAGGGCUAUGGAUGGAAUGAAUGACUCUAGGUCAUGAUGCAAUUUGUAACUCAAGGUUACAAUGGAUAGCUCAAGGUUAUAAAAACAGCUCAGGGCUGUGAGCUCCAGGCUCUAUGAAUGAUUAGCUUGAAAGAGAGAGCGAUAUGCAAACUCCAGGUCAAACCACUCAUGGGUGAGCAAAUGAUGAAGGCUCAGCUCAAGGCUGGAAAGACUCCGGGUCUUAAAGAAAUGAUAGCUCAAGGCUAUCAGGUUUAGGGCCUAUAAGGAAUAGAUAGCUCAGGGCUAUGAGACUCAAGGUCUAGAAGGAAUGGAUAGCUCAAGGCUACGAGGCUCAGGGCCCAGAAGGAGCAGAUAAAGAAGACCAACUCAAAAGUGGGUAGGAAGUAAAUGAGAUCAAAUUUGUAUACCUAAAAUGCUAAGGUUCGGACUAUUGAACUUAAGAAGGGAAAUAUGCCCUAAUAUCUAGGGUGCUCGCACUGCUAAAACAACCAGUAAAUCAAUCAUCUAUCGAAAUCAAUUGGUUAGAAAUCAAUGCAUCAUGACAAACCUCUGAAAAAUUUAGAUUGAAAGAACUCUCUGUGUUUGAAAAGCUGCUCUGUCGAUGAAUCUCAAAGUGUGUAUAUCAUGGCUCAUCUAAAAGCAAAUCUCAAAGUGCUAUUGCUCAUCUAGAUAACCCAAUCUGCAAGACAACAAUGGUGAAAGCAAUCUAUCUCAAGAACAUCUGGCUAACAAAUCUACCCAUGCUCCUUAAGUGAAACCUGAUGUGAUCCAUUUCUAUCUCAACGAAUCCAUGUAAGGAGGUCUUGAUACAGUCAAUCGUCGGAAGCUCCAGACUAGUCUCAAUUUAAAAUCAAGUUUGUCAUUGUCUCAAUCUCAAGGAUACUCAAAGAAAAUGGGGAAAUAUGCCCAGUAUGAGAUCCGACGUCAAAGUUGUACGGUAAAUAACCAACACCUAUCAUCCAUCCUCGUACUAUUGCCUAAACAAAAUCUCACCAAGGAGAGGGGAAUAUGUUCCAAUAUGAUAUCUGAUGUCAAAGUUGUGAGAUAAACAACCAACAAUGAUCAUCCAUCUAUGUAUCGCUGUCUAAACAUAAUCUCACCAAGGAAAGGGGAGUAUGCUCCGGUAUGGAUAUUUGAUGUACGAUAAAGAAUCCGUCAAAAUCAAUCAAACAUCUUUAUAACCAUAAAUGGGAAUAGCCAUGCCGUCUAACAACAACUAGGAACCUCAGAGAAAAAGGGAAAUAUGCCCCAUUGUGGAUGUCUAAUGCAUGACAAAAUGAUGAAUCCGAUAUCAUCAAUGAACUGUCUCCAAACUCAAAAAUCCAUCAAAUAUCAAUAUGCCAAUCAAGAGAGAUAAUAAAUGCUUCCAAAAGUAUCCUGCAUAAGAGAAAGCAUAAUAACGACUAUACUUCAACCAAUCUAUAAAAACCUGUCAAAGUGAAGACUAUCAAAGAUAACGUCUGAUCUUAUGGCCUCAAGGUGGUCUUAAGACCAGGGACGUAACGUAGGCCAGGGUGAUAGGGUGAAAGAAAUGAAGGGAAACUUGGCUCAAAUACCCAAUGAUCAAACCCAUACCCUCAUGUACAAGAUGUAAUGCAUAGAAAAACCUCAUGAGCCAUGGACUUAAAGGUAACCAAAGGAAAUGUCGAUAUUGAAACAAGAGAGAGGAUAAGUGGUCAAACUGUUAAUGAAACAUGUGGAUGAUGUGUAGAAGGUAUCGGACUAGAAAUGUGUGUCAAUAUGUAGGGAAUGGAUAAAAGGUGGAACGAAGAUCUAGAAAGAGGUGAUGAGAUAUAAAAUAAGGCAAUAAGAAAGUGGAAGGAAUGAUGAUCAACCCAUAUCUGUACAAUAAAGAAAAGUCAUAUCACCAACGAUUGAAUGGUGAUUAAGACAAUGAUUCGGAGACCCUAGUAAGAAGUUCAAUCAUCUCUCAUACCUAAUACAUAUCAACCAUGACCCAAGAAGCAUAGGAUCUCAUAGAAAUCUCACAUGAACUCUUGACACUCCAAAUGCAUAACAAAAGUGGCUCAAAGAGUGAAAACUCAUAUAAAAAUCUCACAAGAAUCCAAAAUGACAAAUAUACCCAAUAAACAUACCUUAAAAGGAGACAUAAGUGUCCAAUGGAGCAAAAUACCAUAUACGAACAUAUCAUUGGGUUUUUUUUUUUUUUUGAAUGCGCAUGUUGUUAUCAUCAAUAAAUCGAACUCCAAUGGGAAAUAUAUAAGGAAUGAACAAACUCUCUCAAGUCACUAAUGAAUACAUGAACCUCAUCCCAUGAGACAACCUCUCAAACUGAAAUCUCCGAAUCAAUGCCAAAUGAUGGGAUGAAUGGAGUGAUAUGAUUGCCCUCUUUGCACCAAGAAGUGAAAAAUCAUCAACACAAAGAAGAUGAGAGAUAAGAUGAAGCAAAUAACGAUAAAAACAAGAAAGAGAAUGAAAAUGUGAUAAUAGUAAAAUAGAACAAACAAUGUGAUAAGGAGAUGGUAACAAGAAUGAGAAGAUAGGCCUAUAAGUCUAAAGUUCAUGAGACUUUCAUAGCAAAGCAUGAAUAUACAUCAAAGGGCCCUAACCUGAGUAUAGAAAUGUUAAUCAAGUCUAUAAGAAAUAAAUAAGGCUAUAACAUACCGUGUGAGGCUCAAUGGGCUAGCAAUGGUAUAAUAUAUUAAUAAAGGUGAUAAAGUGUAAGGCUAACCAAAAUGAUGGCCACCCAUCCUACGACCAUAAUCUCAAACGUAAUACUUCUUCAGCUGAUCCACAUUGGUAGGCUUUGAAAAUUGGUUUCCAUCUAAAUUGGUUAACCAUGCUGCCCCUUUUGGAGUCAACUCUCGAAUAACAUAAGGCCCAUUCCAACUAGGUCUGAACUUCCCUCUAGGGUCUCCAACUAAACCUCUGAGAAUCCUUAAAACCAAAUCCCCAUUUUUGUAAUGGUCUAAGCUUAACCCAUUUCCUGAAGGCACGAGCCAUCUUCCUCUAAUAGGCUUGAACAUGAUCUGCUGCUCUCAAUCUCCUCUCAUCUAAAAGGUUAAGUUGAUCAAAUCGAGCCCGAGCCCACUCUGUCUCAUAAAUCUGUUGCUCAAGGACUACUCUCAAUGAACCCAUCUCUGUCUCAACUAGCAAAAUAGCCUCCAUACCAUACACUAGAAAGUAAGGUGUAGCUCCCGUAGAAAUGCGAAAAGAGGUACAGUAUGCCCACAGUGCAAAAUGGAGUUUCUCUAACCAAUCUCGAGAAGUCUCAACCAUCUUCCUCAAAAUCCUCUUAAUGUUCUUAUUUGUUGUCUGUACUGUCCCAUUGGUCUGUGGCCUAUAUGCAUAAGAUCUAUGAUGUCGAAUGCCAUACUUCCACAACAAAGUAUCUACCUCAGCUCGAAAGUGCACCCCUCUAUCUGAAAUCAACUCAUGAAGAAUCCCAUAGCGGCAAAUGAUGUGUGACCUGAUGAAACGGGCAACUCUAGUAGAUGUUAACCUCGCAUAUGAUGCAGCCUCCACCCACUUGGUGAAAUAAUCUAUGGAGACUAGGAUGAACUCAUGACCAUUGGAAUAUUUUGGUGAAAUCUUCCCAAUAAUAUCAAUACCCAUACUGAAAAUGGUUAUGGCGAGGUCAAAGCAUGUAACUUUGAUGGCGGUGCAUGAAUGAGAUCACCAUGAAUUUGACACUCUGGGCAUUUAUGAAAAAACUGAGAACAAUUUGUCUCCAUAAUCAACCAAAAACACCCUGUCCUCGUAAUCUUACGGGCCAACAUGUGUCCUCCCAUAUGCAGACCACAAACUCUUGCAUGAACCUCUCUCAUCACUUUGUCUACAAAGGCUUAAUCUAAACACAACAGAAGCAUACCAUCAGCUGAUCGCCUAUAUAAGUGAUUACUACCCAAAAAGUGCUAUUUUACACCUUUAAUGCAUUAUGUUUUAAGCACUUUUGUGUAGUAGUUCUCCAUCUUUAGUCCAAUUGGCAUGUUAAGGACCUAGCAAUGUCUUCUAAUCAUAUUUGUGGCUAGUUUUAAUGUUUUGACAGCUUUUUGGAUCAUUAAGACAAGUCAAGCAAAGGAGAGAAGCAAAGAGAAGCAAAGAGAAGCAAAGUGAAAAAAAUCAAGAUGUAGCAGCUGCAGUCUUCUUUCACACUUUUGGAGCACUUUCCGAAGUCCAGUUUUUACAUACUAUAUACCAUUUCAAAGCUAUGGAAGUCAAGAAUCCAACGCUUCAAACCGUGUACGAUUUGGAGCUGAAAUGAGGAAGAUAUGGCCUUCGGAAGCCAACUGCUCCAGGUUAUGCGAAAAUUUCGCAUUCCACAAGAGGUUAUGCGAAAUUCGCAUAACAUUCGCAUAUGGUUCGCAUAACCCAUGCGUGUUGCGAAUUUUGCUCUGCCCUUUGCCGACUCCACUUUAGAUAUUUUCCUUUGUAUUUUGUGAUGUAAUUUCCUUUAUUAUCCUUGUAACUAACCAAUCAUAAGCUUUGGCUUUUGUAAAGACUUUAUAAGGGGUGGAAAUCACCUCUUGGAACAUAUGGAAUACGUAUUACGUUUUUACACUGUGAAUUUUACAGAGCUCUCUCGUUCUCUUUUCUCUUUACUAUUUUCGUUUUCUUGGAAGCCAAACAACCUCUAAGGAUGUUUGCCCGGAGGAUGAGAGGCUAAACUUUCGGUUUCUUGGAGUAAAGGAAGCUAGGUGAAAAGUCCAGAUGAAAAGGUGGAAAGCUUCCAUGCAUUAAAUUCAGGUAGUUGGAAUUCAUAAAUGGCUUCUAAAUCCAAAGUUUUGCUUUAAACCCCUUAGAAUCACUUUGAAUGACCAAUACAUGGUAAGCUUCAGGUCUUUAUGGAUGCUUAUUGCUAGAUUCAUAUUAGUCCAUUAGUUAUCAUGUACGAGUCAUUGGAAAGUGAUUCAAGGUGAAGACCCAUAGUGUCUUAAGCCAUUAAUGGACCUUGACUAUCAUUUCUAUUGAUCUUUUAUGGAUUAAAUCUUCAUUGUCAAACCUACACCGGUUUGGGAAAUAACUAUAGGUUAAAUCCCCAAUGCGAGGAGAAAAAUCCGGAAUUUUCCACUUUCUAUUCUGAACUUGAUCCUAGCAACCCUUAGCUCCGGGAGACUUUCUUUCUUCCAUUUUUAAUUAGUUUAUGUUAGUUUAGUUUCAAACACUUUCAAAACAAAUUUUAUUUUCUUUUAAACUUUAAGUUUUUUAUCAUGGAAAUCAUUAAAUCCAAUUUCUAAUUUUGAGUAUAUCACUGGUAGAAUGGAAACCCAUCCCAGAGUUCGACCCUAGAGCCACUAUACUAUAGUAGCUUUGCUACGUUAGUAUGAGGUCAUAGGUUUUAUAAAUGUUUUUGAUUAAAUGACCCAUUUGGAGUUACAUGCGAAUCAAAAUGGCGCCGUUGCCGGGGAUGGUGCCACAAUACAGUGAUGCAACCUUUUAGAGGCUACUUGUGAUUCCCAUCACAAGUUUGGUGAAUUCCUUUUUCACUAACUUCAUUUCCUUUCAUUUUAUUUUUGUCAGGUUUAUUUUCAUUUUCAUUUUCUUUCUAACCUUAAUUUUUUUUUUCUAGGUUUCUUUUGUUUUUGUUAUUUUUGUUUUAUUUCAGGUAAGUAGUAACUUGUGCAUGCCCUAUUGGAUUCGGGACCAAGAGGGAAGAUUAGUAAGGAUUGAGAAUCCUCAAGACACAGAGUUGGAUAUUUGUGUUAAUAUCAUGGACCCUCCACCAGAGGAUCAGAAUUCUCAACAAGGUCAAGGGGGUAAUCCCAAUGCAUAUUUAUCCAUGAGGGAUAGAAUGCACCCACCAAGGAUGAGUGCACCCUCAUGCAUCAUACCUCCUCUUGAGCAGUUGGUUAUAAGGCCCCAUAUUGUGCCCCUUCUACCAAAUUUCCAUGGAAUGGAGAGUGAGAAUCCAUAUGCCCACAUCAAGGAGUUUGAGGAGGUUUGCAAUACCUUUAGAGAGGGAGGAGCUUCAAUAGACUUGAUGAGACUCAAGCUAUUCCCUUUUACUCUGAAGGACAAGGCAAAAAUAUGGCUUAAUUCUUUAAGGCCAAGGAGCAUAAGGAAUUGGGUUGAUCUUCAGGCCGAAUUUUUGAAGAAAUUUUUCCCCACCCAUAGGACCAAUGGGUUGAAGAGACAAAUCUCAAAUUUUUCUGCUAAAGAAAAUGAGAAGUUCCAUGAAUGUUGGGAAAGGUAUAUGGAGGCCAUCAAUGCUUGUCCUCAUCAUGGCUUUGAUACAUGGCUCUUGGUGAGCUAUUUUUAUGAUGGAAUGUCCUCCUCCAUGAAGCAAAUUCUUGAAACCAUGUGUGGGGGAGAUUUUAUGAGCAAGAAUCCGGAAGAAGCCAUGGACUUUUUAAGUUAUGUGUCUGAAGUGUCAAGAGGAUGGGAUGAGCCCAACUCAAGAGAAAAAGGGAAGUUUCCCUCUCAACCAACCCAAAAUCCAAAAGGUGGAAUGUACGUAUUAAGUGAAGACAUGGACAUGAAAGCUAAAGUGGCAACAAUAGCAAGGAAGUUGGAAGAACUUGAGUUGAAAAAGAUACAUGAAGUCCAAGCCAUUUCCGAGACCCAAGCCCAUGUCAUGCCAUGCACCAUUUGCCAAUCAUGUGAUCAUGUGGUAGAUGAGUGCCCAACCAUGCCAGCUGUGAGGGAGAUGUUAGGUGAUCAAGCCAAUGUUGUGGGGCAAUUUAGGCCUAACAACAGUGCACCUUAUGGAAACACCUAUAAUUCAAGUUGGAGAAACCAUCCAAAUUUUUCAUGGAAACCAAGACCACCUCCAUACCAACCACAAGGCCAAACCCAAGCACCUCAACAAACCUCUUCAGUGGAGCAAGCCAUUGUGAACCUAAGUAAAGUCAUGGGUGACUUUGUGGGUGAACAAAAGGCAAUCAACUCCCAAUUGCAUCAAAAGAUUGAAAAUGUUGAGAGUUCUCAAAUUAAGAGAAUGGAGGGGAUGCAAAAUGAUCUAUCUCAGAAGAUAGAUAAUAUUCAAUACUCCAUCUCUAGGCUUACCAACCUCAACACUGUGAAUGAAAAGGGAAAGUUUCCCUCUCAACCAAGCCAAAAUCCCAAGGGUGUUCAUGAAGUUGAAACCCAAGAGGGGGAGUCUUCAAAGUUGAGGGAGGUUAAAGCUUUGAUCACUUUAAGGAGUGGAAAAGAGGUUGAUCAACCCCUGCCUAAGGUGAAGCAAGAUGAAGAACUCAUGUCAAAGAAAACCUUGGUCAAAGAGAGCAAUAACCAAGAAGAGAAGAGUGGGAAGAAAAAUGCAUCCAAAUCAAGCAUUGAAGAAGAGCCAAGGAUAGUGAUUAAAGAGGAUAUGAUGAAGAAACAUAUGCCUCCCCCUUUUCCUCAAGCUUUACAUGGAAAGAAGGAAAUCAAGAAUUCAUCAGAAAUUCUUGAAGUCUUGAGACAAGUGAAGGUGAAUAUACCCUUACUUGAUAUGAUCAAGCAAGUCCCCACAUAUGCAAAGUUUCAAAAGGACUUGUGCACGGUCAAGAGAGGGUUACAUGUGACAAAGAAUGCAUUCCUCACUGAGCAAGUAAGUGCUAUCAUUCAGAGUAAGUCUCCAGUUAAGUAUAAAGAUCCGGGAUGUCCCACCAUUUCAGUCAACAUUGGAGGGACACAAGUGGAGAAAGCUUUACUAGACUUGGGGGCAAGUGUGAAUUUGCUCCCAUACUCUGUGUACAAGCAACUGGGACUUGGAGGAUUGAAGCCCACAGCCAUCACUCUCUCCUUAGCUGAUAGGUCAGUAAAAAUCCCAAGGGGGGUGAUAGAGGAUGUUCUAGUUCAAGUGGACAAAUUCUACUAUCUUGUGGAUUUUGUUGUGCUUGAUACUGAUCCCACAGUGAAGGAAGCAAACUAUGUACCAAUUAUCCUUGGGAGACCUUUCCUAGCUACCUCCAAUGCCAUCAUCAAUUGUAGAAAUGGGGUGAUGCAGCUCACAUUUGGGAAUAUGACCUUGGAAUUAAACAUAUUCCACCUAUGCAAGAGGCAUCUUCACCCAGAAGAAGAGGAAGGAUUAGAGGAGGUGUGCUUGAUCAACACCUUGGUUGAAGAGCAUUGUGACAAGAAUUUACAAGAGAGCUUGAAUGAAAGCCUUGAAAUGUUUGAAGAAGGGUUACCUACACCCUCUGAUGUUCUACCUAUCAUGUCUCCUUGGAGGAGACAGCAAGAGAUCUUACCACUGUUCAACCAAGAAGACUCACAAGAAGCAACUGUGGAUGACCCUCCAAAGCUUGUUUUGAAGCCGCUCCCUGUUAAUUUGAAAUAUGCAUAUUUGGAGGAAAAUGAGAAAUGUCCAGUGGUGGUUUCUUCAACUCUUACUAGUGAUCAAGAGGAUAAUCUUUUGGGAGUCCUCAGGAAAUGCAAGAAAGCCAUUGGAUGGCAAAUUUCUGAUCUGAAAGGGAUUAGCCCUUUGGUGUGCACCCACCAUAUUUAUAUGGAGGAUGAUGCAAAACUAGUGAGGCAGCCCCAGAGGAGGUUGAAUCCUCACAUGCAAGAGGUGGCGAGGGGUGAAGUUCUGAAGCUACUCCAAGCUGGGAUCAUAUAUCCCAUUUCAGACAGUUUGUGGGUGAGCCCCACCCAAGUAGUCCCAAAGAAAUCUGGAAUCACUAUGGUCCAGAAUGAGAAAGGGGAGGAAGUCUCUACACGCCCUACCUCAGGAUGGAGGGUGUGUAUAGACUACAGGAGGUUGAAUUCAGUGACUAGGAAGGACCAUUUCCCAUUGCCUUUCAUGGACCAAGUCCUUGAGAGAGUCUCAGGACAUCCUUUCUACUUUUUUCUGGAUGGGUACUCGGGGUACUUCCAAAUAGAGAUUGAUUUGGAAGAUCAAGAAAAGACAACCUUCACUUGCCCCUUUGGUACUUUUGUGUAUAGGAGAAUGCCCUUUGGUCUAUGCAAUGCUCCUGCAACUUUCCAAAGAUGUAUGCUGAGCAUCUUCAGUGAUAUGGUGGAGCGCAUCAUGGAAGUCUUCAUGGAUGACAUCACUGUUUAUGGAAGUUCUUAUGAGGAGUGUUUGUUGCAUUUAGAAGCUGUUCUCCAAAGAUGUAUUGAGAAAGACCUAGUGCUAAAUUGGGAGAAGUGCCAUUUUAUGGUACAACAAGGAAUUGUCUUAGGACAUAUCAUCUCCAAGAAGGGCAUUGAGGUAGAUAAGGCUAAGGUGGAGCUUAUUGUUAAGUUGCCACCUCCCACAAAUGUUAAGGGAAUUAGGCAAUUCCUUGGACAUGCCGGGUUCUAUAGGAGGUUCAUUAAGGAUUUCUCAAAAAUCUCAAAGCCUCUUUGUGAACUCUUGGUAAAAGAUGCCAAGUUUGUGUGGGAUGAGAAGUGUCAGAAGAGUUUUGAGGAACUGAAGCAAUUCCUCACAACUGCACCAAUAGUGAGAGCCCCAAAUUGGAAGUUACCUUUUGAGGUAAUGUGUGAUGCAAGUGACCUUGCUAUGGGGGCUGUCUUAGGGCAAAGAGAAGAUGGAAAGCCCUAUGUAAUUUAUUAUGCUAGCAAAACUUUGAACGAGGCUUAAAGGAACUACACAACUACUGAGAAGGAGUUGUUGGCAGUAGUUUUUGCCUUGGAUAAGUUUCGUGCUUAUUUGGUAGGGUCCUCUAUAGUGGUGUUCACUGACCAUUCCGCUUUGAAGUACUUGCUAACCAAGCAAGAUGCCAAGGCAAGAUUGAUAAGAUGGAUCCUUUUGCUCCAAGAAUUCAAUCUCCAAAUCCGGGAUAAAAAGGGGAUAGAAAAUGUGGUAGCUGACCACUUGUCAAGACUUGUGAUAUCACGUGACUCACAUGGUCUGCCUAUCAAUGAUGACUUCCCUGAGGAGUCUCUCAUGUCAAUAGAGGUAGCUCCAUGGUAUUCUCACAUUGCAAAUUUCUUGGUUACUGGAGAAGUACCAAGUGAGUGGAGUACCCAAGACAAGAGGCAUUUCUUUGCUAAGAUCCAUGCCUAUUAUUGGGAGGAGCCUUUUCUCUUCAAAUAUUGUGCGGAUCAAAUCAUAAGGAAAUGUGUUCCUGAACAAGAGCAAUCAGGAAUUCUUUCCCAUUGCCAUGAUAAUGCAUGUGGAGGUCAUUUUGCCUCAUAGAAAACAGUAAUGAAAGUGAUCCAAUCAGGUUUUUGGUGGCCCUCUCUUUUCAAGGAUGCCCACUCUAUGUGCAAGGGAUGUGAUCGGUGUCAAAGGCUUGGUAAGCUAACACGCCGAAAUAUGAUGCCCUUGAAUCCCAUCUUGAUAGUGGAUGUCUUUGAUGUUUAGGGGAUAGACUUCAUGAGACCAUUUCCAAUGUUGUUUGGACAUUCCUACAUUUUGGUGGGAGUGGAUUAUGUCUCUAAGUGGGUAGAAGCAAUCCCAUGUAGGAGCAAUGAUCAUAAGGUGGUUCUUAGAUUCCUCAAGGACAACAUCUUUGCAAGAUUUGGUGUGCCUAAGGCCAUUAUCAGUGAUGGAGGAACCCACUUUUGCAAUAAACCUUUUGAGACUCUUCUAGCCAAGUAUGGGGUUAAGCACAAGGUAGCUACACCUUAUCACCCUCAAACAAGUGGCCAAGUUGAGUUAGCCAACCGGGAAAUCAAGAAUAUAUUGAUGAAGGUGGUGANNNNNNNNNNNNNNNNNNNNNNNNNNNNNNNNNNNNNNNNNNNNNNNNNNNNNNNNNNNNNNNNNNNNNNNNNNNNNNNNNNNNNNNNNNNNNNNNNNNNCAUUGCCAUGAUAAUGCAUGUGGAGGUCAUUUUGCCUCCCAGAAAACAGCAAUGAAAGUGAUCCAAUCAGGUUUUUGGUGGCCCUCUCUUUUCAAGGAUGCCCACUUUAUGUGCAAGGGAUGUGAUCGGUGUCAAAGGCUUGGUAAGCUAACACGCCGAAAUAUGAUGCCCUUGAAUCCCAUCUUGAUAGUGGAUGUCUUUGAUGUUUGGGGGAUAGACUUCAUGGGACCAUUUCCAAUGUCGUUUGGACAUUCCUACAUUUUGGUGGGAGUGGAUUAUGUCUCUAAGUGGGUAGAAGCAAUCCCAUGUAGGAGCAAUGAUCAUAAGGUGGUUCUUAGAUUCCUCAAGGACAACAUCUUUGCAAGAUUUGGUGUGCCUAAGGCCAUUAUCAGUGAUGGAGGAACCCACUUUUGCAAUAAACCUUUUGAGACUCUUCUAGCCAAGUAUGGGGUUAAGCACAAGGUAGCUACACCUUAUCACCCUCAAACAAGUGGCCAAGUUGAGUUAGCCAACCGGGAAAUCAAGAAUAUAUUGAUGAAGGUGGUGAAUGUGAAUAGGAAGGAUUGGUCUAUUAAGCUCUUAGAUUCCCUAUGGGCUUAUAGGACCGCUUACAAGACCAUUCUUGGGAUGUCUCCUUAUCGCCUUGUUUAUGGCAAAGCGUGUCACCUUCCAGUGGAGAUUGAAUAUAAAGCAUGGUGGGCAAUCAAGAAGCUCAACAUGGAUUUGACAAGAGCCGGGUUGAAGAGAUGUUUGGAUUUGAAUGAAUUGGAGGAAAUGAGGAAUGAUGCUUACCUCAAUUCAAAAAUUGCAAAAGAGAGGUUGAAGAAAUGGCAUGAUCAAUUGGUAAAUCAAAAGAAUUUUGCCAAGGGACAAAGAGUCUUGCUUUAUGACUCUAAGCUUCAUCUUUUUCCGGGAAAAUUGAAAUCAAGAUGGACGGGUCCUUUCAUAAUUCAUGAUGUGAAAUCAAAUGGAGUAGUGGAACUACUCAACUUCAAUAGCACUCGAACUUUCAAAGUGAAUGAGCAUCGUCUUAAGCCUUAUAUAGAAUCAUUUUCCCGAGACAAGGAGGAAUUCAUCCUCCUUGAUCCACCUCCAACAUGAAAAUACUUGGUUUAUGGUUGAACUUAGUCUCUUCAAAGACUAAAGAGUUCAUCCUCUUUUUGUUUUCUUUUAAGUUGAUUUUAAUUUAAUCUAGUUUUUUUUUCUUGUGUUUUUCCAUGUUUUGAUUUUUUUUUUUUGACUUUAAUGCCGUUCUAAUGUGUUUUUAAUUGGUUUUUUGGGUUAACAUUUAGGUGGGAAAGCUUGAGGAAUGAAGUCAUGGUGAAAGUAAGGCAAAACAGGGGAGAAAAAAACAAGUUUCAGCCAUUUUCGAAACCCCCCCCCCAUAUGCGAAAUUUUCGCAUAACACACCCCUUAUGCGAAAAUGCUUUUGUGGCAAUUUAAAAAAAAACAUGCUCUCGGUCCCUUCCCAAAAUCCCUUAUGCGAAUUUCACAGGAAUGCGAACCAUAUGCCAACCAUAUGCGAAUUCGUUUUUGAGACAAAUUUGCAAAACCAUGCUCUCUGUCUGGGUUCUCACAGGAAUGCGAAAUUUUCGCAUAACAUAAGGGGUAAUGCGAAAUUUGCAUUUCCUCUUUAAAGACCGUGUUCUUCUCUUCCCAUGCUCAAUUUCUUCUUCAUUUCUCAUAGCACCUCUCUUCCAAUCACCAAAUCCCUUCAUUAAGUUUCUUUUCUUCAUCAUUCCUCAAUCUCAACACCACCAUGGCAGCCCAUCUCCAUAACUCCACCUCAUAGUCGCGGCAGUCACUAUUCAUCACCGUCCACCCCUUCAAUUUUCAGCUCUUUCCACCAUCAAAAACCUCCCAAUUCCUCACUCAACACUAUAAAUCCAACCCUCAACCAAUUUCAGCCUUGUAUUCACCAAUUCAAAACCUCAAGCUAAGCAUUCAAGCCACGUUUUCUUCAAAGAGAACCCAUGGCCGCCGGGUAGAGGAGCUCCAAUUUUCAAAAUUUCUUCGUGAAAAAGCUCCAAUUUCCAAGCCUAUUCACCAUGAAAAAUUCUUUUCUUACCUUAGCCAGCAUUUCCCACCCUCAAAAGCCAAAAAUUUCCACAAUUUGAAUGAGCUUCAAAACUUCAAGUGGGCGUGUGAAUAGUGCAUAUGCGAAAUUUUUGCAUUCCAUCAUGUGUUAUGCGAAAUUCGCAUAACCCCCCCCCCCCCCCCAAAGGGAAAAUUUUACAAAAACCCCACCCUGGGGCAAUUUUUCACUUUUUUCCUCUCUGCCCCCCCCCAACCCAAACCCGGGGGGCCCCAUUCAUUACUUUCUUAAGCCCAAAAACCCCAGGGGGAAUACCCCCGCCCCCCCAAGCAAUGGGAAAAACCGCCCUGGGGGGGGCCCNNNNNNNNNNNNNNNNNNNNNNNNNNNNNNNNNNNNNNNNNNNNNNNNNNNNNNNNNNNNNNNNNNNNNNNNNNNNNNNNNNNNNNNNNNNNNNNNNNNNCCCCCCCCCCCCCCCAUAUGCGAAAUUUUCGUAUAACCCCUACCUUGUGCCAAUUUUUCACUUUUUCCAUCUCUGCCCUCCCCAAUCCAAAGCCUAUGAGCCUCAUUUCAUUACUUCAUUAUGCCUAAGACCCGAGGAGGACAUACCUCAGCUCCCCAGAGCAGUGAGAGAGCCACCCCUAUGCGGGCCCCACUAGAUGCGCUGCCACAUUUAGCUGAUUCUGCCUCUCAGAGCAGAUACCAUACGAGAAGAGCAUCUGCCACACCUAUGGCCCCUACUCAGAUUCCACUUUGGGGUCCUCCUACAAAGAAAGCCAAGACUUCAAAGCCAGGAGAGUCCUCUAGAGCACCUCGGGAUUCACAGUCUCAACCGCCCAUCACUAUCCCUGGUUUAGAGUACCGUGCCUUGCUCGGUUCUUUUCAGACUCUGACCACUACUCAGACGGCCAUUAUGGAGCGCAUGGACUACUUCCAGAUUCAGCAGGAGCAGCAGACUCUCAUUCUCCGUGAGAUUCAGCAGCACCUCGGUCUUGUGCCAUCAGCUCCACCUGUAGCGGUGCCUUCCUCAGUUCCAGCAGAGGACCCCUCCUAUCCACCAGAGGAGCCUACUACUUGAUCAUACGAUCACUCCUCUCCCUUUUUUUUUUUUUUUUUAUCUAUAUUCUAUGUUUUUUGGAUGUCUUAUGUAUUUUGGACCACCUUUAUAUUGGGAUUGGAUAUAUUCCAUGUUUGUCUUGUAUAUUGUACUCUCUCAGUUUAUAUAGACAUCUUCCUUUUUGUGUAUUUUAGCUAUUCCUUUUUAUUUCCUCUAAUCAUCACUCUUAUGAUUUUUCUUUUCUUAUGCAACAUGUGGUUUCUCCUCUCUAUUCAGAGUACCUUACUAUAAGGAGGUAUCACUUCCUCCCUUUUAUUACCAUUUGCUUUUAGAACAUUGGGGACAAUGUUCAUCCUAGUUGGGGGGAGAGUUGAGGAAGUAAAUUGUUGAAUUUUUUUGGUUAAGUUAUUUUGCUAACAAAUUUUUUGCAAACUCUCCUUGUUUUCUUAAAGAUAAAUUCUCAAAAAUAAAUAGGAGAAAUUAAAUUCUUAUCUUAUUGCCAUAGUCUUAGAGUUUGUAUUAUGCUUAUUAAAGUUGAUAAAUUGUUGAAGCUCCUUUUGAUUUCAAUCUUAAGUCUUCCACUCUAAUCUUUUCACACACUGAACACAUUAGAUUCCAGUUAUAAGAUGGAAAACUUUUUCACCCCCUAAACUUAGGAAAUUUUUGACUUGGUACCAUUGACUUCAUUCUAUUAGUGUUGGGACACCUUAUAAAAGGCCAAUGUGUCUUAUGAAAAAAAUUUUGCUUCACUUGCUUUGAAACCCGAGCAAGGUCCGAGGGGUAUAUGGUGAAAAUCUUUAAAACCUGGUGCCCUAAGCCUUCAAUGGUUGGGAGCCACCGACCUCACUGCUCGUUACAUGGGUGGAUGGGUGGAGUAUAUUAAAAAUAAAAAUAAAAAAAAGAAAAAAAGAAAAAGAAGAGGUGCGUUCUUAGCCUUCUAUAUAUGAGUUAGUGUUGCUAAAGUUAGAGAAAAACCUUAGUUGGGAGGAGAAUAUAGUUUGACACACUAUAACUGGAAACUAAGCAUCUUAACACUUAGAUUUUUGUGGAAGAUUAAGAGUUGGUCCUUUGGGAGUGGAAAUUAUUUUGAUACUCAAAUUUGCAUAAUGCCCGCUUUUUGAAUGUUGUGAUAGGUAAGUUAUUUGAUGACUCUUGUUGAUGAUUGAGUUUUAUAUCCUUGACUAUUCACAAGAGAGUUUGAUCCAAUCAUGCCACUUGGUUAUUUUUUGGAGUGAUCAGCAUGAUUUUGUAAAAUAUUAUAUUAUCUAUUCUUCUUUAUUUUUCUUUCCUUCAUUGCUCAGGGACUAGCAAUGUGUCAGUUGGGGGGAGUGAUUACUACCCAAAAAGUGCUAUUUUACACCUUUAAUGCAUUAUGUUUUAAGCACUUUUGUGUAGUAGUUCUCCAUCUUUAGUCCAAUUGGCAUGUUAAGGACCUAGCAAUGUCUUCUAAUCAUAUUUGUGGCUAGUUUUAAUGUUUUGACAGCUUUUUGGAUCAUUAAGACAAGUCAAGCAAAGGAGAGAAGCAAAGAGAAGCAAAGUGAAAAAAAUCAAGAUGUAGCAGCUGCAGUCUUAUUUCACACUUUUGGAGCACUUUCCGAAGUCCAUUUUUUACAUGCUGUAUACCAUUUCAAAGCUCUGGAAGUCAAGAAUCCAACGCUUCAAACCGUGUACGAUUUGGAGCUGAAAUGAGGAAGAUAUGGCCUUCGGAAGCCAACUGCUCCAGGUUAUGCGAAAAUUUCGCAUUCCACAAGAGGUUAUGCGAAAUUCGCAUAACAUUCGCAUAUGGUUCGCAUAACCCAUGCGUGUUGCGAAUUUUGCUCUGCCCUUUGCCGACUCCACUUUAGAUAUUUUCCUUUGUAUUUUGUGAUGUAAUUUCCUUUAUUAUCCUUGUAACUAACCAAUCAUAAGCUUUGGCUUUUGUAAAGACUUUAUAAGGGGUGGAAAUCACCUCUUGGAACAUAUGGAAUACGUAUUACAUUUUUACACUGUGAAUUUUACAGAGCUCUCUCGUUCUCUUUUCUCUUUACUAUUUUCGUUUUCUUGGAAGCCAAAAAACCUCUAAGGAUGUUUGCCCGGAGGAUGAGAGGCUAAACUUUCGGUUUCUUGGAGUAAAGGAAGCUAGGUGAAAAGUCCAGAUGAAAAGGUGGAAAGCUUCCAUGCAUUAAAUUCAGGUAGUUGGAAUUCAUAAAUGGCUUCUAAAUCCAAAGUUUUGCUUUAAACCCCUUAGAAUCACUUUGAAUGACCAAUACAUGGUAAGCUUCAGGUCUUUAUGGAUGCUUAUUGCUAGAUUCAUAUUAGUCCAUUAGUUAUCAUGUACGAGUCAUUGGAAAGUGAUUCAAGGUGAAGACCCAUAGUGUCUUAAGCCAUUAAUGGACCUUGACUAUCAUUUCUAUUGAUCUUUUAUGGAUUAAAUCUUCAUUGUCAAACCUACACUGGUUCGGGAAAUAACUAUAGGUUAAAUCCCCAAUGCGAGGAGAAAAAUCCGGAAUUUUCCACUUUCUAUUCUGAACUUGAUCCUAGCAACCCUUAGCUCCGGGAGACUUUCUUUCUUCCAUUUUUAAUUAGUUUAUGUUAGUUUAGUUUCAAACACUUUCAAAACAAAUUUUAUUUUCUUUUAAACUUUAAGUUUUUGAUCAAGGAAAUCAUUAAAUCCAAUUUCUAAUUUUGAGUAUAUCACUGGUAGAAUGAAAACCCAUCCCAGAGUUCGACCCUAGAGCCACUAUACUAUAGUAGCUUUGCUACGUUAGUAUGAGGUCAUAGGUUUUAUAAAUGUUUUUGAUUAAAUGACCCGAUUGGAGUUACACGCGAAUCAAUAAGGUAUCUCCACAAAUCAUAAAUCUAGUGGCUAACUGUCUCAAUGCUCUUCGAUCCUUAGCUAUGGCUACCUCAAGAUAUGUGCCAGAUCUAAGAAACUGAUAAAUGUCAUGAUAUCAAGGUAGAUCAUCCUGGACCUCUGUCUCUCCAAUCAAACAACAGUAGGUGGGUGCAGACCUCAACUCAAUUAGCAAUGGAUGUACUACUACAUCAAUCGGAAUGUCCAUAGAAGAAGCUAGGGUAGCUAAGGCGUUAGCAAACUGGUUUUGCAAUCUAGGAAAAUGAACAUAUCUCAAGUCAUCAAAUCUCGCAACUAGUAACUCCAAGUAAGCGUGAUACGACCUAAGCUUCACAUCUCUAGCCUUCCAAUCUCCUUAAAUCUGUCUGAGUACCAAAUUAGAGUCACCAAAUACCUCAAUUUGUCUAAUGCCAAGCUCCAAUACAGUCUCUCAACCAAGGAUACAAGCCUCAUACUCAAUUAUAUUAUUCAUGAUAAGUGUCAAUCAAGGAAUGCCAAACAAAUAGACCUCGAAAUGUGAUCAUCCUGAGGGGAUACCAACAAAACACCUAUCCCAUACCCUGAUUGAUUAGCUGCACCAUCAAAGUACAUGCACCAUCCUGAUAAGCUAGUCAUAACAAUAAACUCCUCAUCUAAAAAAUCAUCAUCAACUGGUCUAUCCUUAGAUGUCAGUAGUGAGGCUAAGUGAUUGGCGACAAUACUUCCCUUAAUAGACUUUUGAGAAACAUAUUGAAUAUCAAACUCUGUCAAAAGUACGAGCCAUCUCAUCAGUCUACUAGUCAAUACAGGUCUAUCAAAUAGAAAUCUCAAUAGAUCUAGGCGGGAUAUCAAAUGCACUGAAAUCUUUGUCAUGUAAUGCCUCAAUUUCUUGGUAGCCUAAGGUAGUGCUAAGUAAAGGUGCUCAAUCAUAACAUAUCUCAUCUUAUACUCUAACAUCCUCUUACUUGGAUAGUAAAUAGCUCGCUCCCUCCCUAAGUCAUCAAGCUGAGCUAAAAUACAUCCUAAGGUCAUGUCUGAAACUGACAAAUACAAAAGAAGUGAAGGUCCCAACAUAGGAGGCAUUAGAAUAGGAGGAGAAAUCAAGUACUCCUUGAUCUUCUCAAAUGCAAGUUGGUAAUCAUCAUUCCAAAUUGUUGGUGAUUCAUGCCCAAUUGGUGUCUCAGCUGAUUUGUGUCCAGCUGCUGCUCCUUGAUUGAGGGAGUAAUCAACAAAAUUUGUAACCUAUAACACCAUAUACUAGGGUAGCAAAGAAAAAGCUACUAUAGUAUAGUGGCUUUAGGAUCGUCCACUGGGAAAGAUUAACAAGCUCUCAAUGAUACCAAUUCCAAGUGAAUUGGUUUUGUUUCAUUUCAUGGUUAGCUUAAGAAGUAAAACACAAACUUUGAUUGGUAAAGGUUUAGACUUAAACUAACUAACAUAACAGAAGUUUGGAAUAAUUUAGGAAGAAAAGCAUUCCCUGGAGAGUUAGGUUCACUGGGGUGGUUCCUCAUGCAAAAGACAUAGCUCCGGUCAGAUGGUUCAUUUCCUCGCGUUAGAGAUUCAACAUAUAGUCAAUUCUCUAACCGGUAUUGUACAGAGACUCCUUCAAUUAGAUUUCACUUUAAUUCUCUCACUGAUGCAACUUGCAAUGAUUUAAGCCUCUCACUAAGCCUUAACCAUUCAAGGUGAUCUUUAACCUUGGAUUACCCGUCAAAAGCUCGCAAGAGAUAACUAAUGGAUGUCUCCUAGGAGUCCAAAAGCUUACCAAGUGUUGGCUAUUCUAGAAAAUCCUACCUUGAAGUCACCUCCCAGAGGCUCACAAGGGGUAAACUAGUGCAUUUCCAUGGUUGGAAAUCACUUGCCUUACCAAGUGUUGGCCGAGGUGACUCUAAGGUGUUUUAAGUUAACUAAAAACAUAGAAAUCACUAAAGGAUUUCACUUCCUCUUCAUUACUAGCUAAAACCACAGAGCUUUGCAUUCUUGCACUUGGAACCUUCCCCGGCAACCUUAGCUCCAAGGAACUAGAGGUUUAGUUACUCAUUCUCUGGGGAAAACUCCUCAGAGAGUUCAUAACUUAGUAAGAAAAUGAAAAUACAAAGUGAGAAGGUAAGGCAGUAGAAAGAAAAUAAACUUUACUUGCUUACCCAAACUUUUACAGAAGGAACUCCUCCCUGAGAACAGGCUCCCGAGAGGUAUAUAUAUGAACAUAAUAUAAAACUAAUUAUUACAUAGAUAUUUAGUCUUUUUACUAACUUAAAAGCUAAGGAAUCAUGUAAUUGGUGGUUUACAAGGAGUAUUUUGGGAUUUAGACAACAAAAAUAUGAUGGAAAAUAUCUCCCAAUGUCGGUAGCAAAUAUCGGGAGGCUUCAAGAAUCAUUUCGCAGGAGAAAAAUGGUGUCUGCGAGAUUUCGCAGACACUCAAGAGGGCUGCGAAAUAAUUUCGCAACACCAAGCUAUAUUCACAGGGCUGCGAAAUUGGCUUCCACCUUGAGGUUCCCAGCUUCCUUCUCGCGGCAUAAAUCGGGCAUCGUCAGAAGGAGAAACAUUACACUGUUCAAAAAGGCUGCGAAAUCACUUCGCAACAAAAGGGUGAUUUCGCAACACUUUGCAAAAUGCUUCCUUCAGCUAGGAGUGAUUGGCUUGUAAUGGCUGCAACUUCUUCGUUUCAACUCCGAAUUGCACACCGUUUAAAGAAUUGGAUUGUUGACUUCUUGAGCUUUGAAAUGGUAUAUAGCAUGCAUCAUCUGGACUUCAGAAAGUGCUCUAAAAGUGGUUGUUACGACUCUCAUCAAGAAUAUGCUUUAUGGCAGAUUCUCUUUGCUUUUUUCUCCUUGCAAUCCGGAUUUACUCUUGGCAAAUGAUUUCUAAGCUUUGCCCAAGAUUCCUUAUAGCUCUCCUCAGUCUUGACUUGCUUUGGUGAUCAAAAUACUAACAAAAACACCAAAACUUACACAAAGUGAUCAAAAUUGUUUUCAAGGGUCCUUAACAUGCCAAUUGAGUUAAAAGGCCAAAACUACUACUCAAAAGUGUUUAAAAGGAUUAAUUAUAAGCUAUCAAAUAGCACUUUUUGAGUAGUAAUCAGUUGGCUGAUUCUUUCUCAAAAGACGAAAAAUGGGCUCACAUAUGUCUAUCAAUCUGGCUAUGAAUCAACUGAUAUACUGUAAUUUGCCUAGAAAACCCCUGAUAUCUUUCUUAGUCUUUGAUACAAGCAUGUCAAGUAUGGCUUUGAUCUUAUCUGGGUCGACCUCUAUGCCCCUCUCACGAACCAUAUGCCCCAAUAAUUUCCUAGAAGUCACUCCAAAGGUGCACUUCUUUGGAUUCAGCCUCAAUCUGAAUUUUUGGAUUCUCUCAAAGAAUCUCUCUAGAGCUUCUAGGUGAUUUGCUCUGCCUCAGGAUUUCAAAAUCAUAUCAUCCACAUAAACUUCAACAUCCUUAUGCAUCAUGUCAUGAAACAAAGUAGUAGCAGCCCUCUGAUAAGUGGCUCCUACGUUUUUCAACCCAAAUAGCAUAACCCUGUAACAGUAGGUACCCCACUCAAUAAUAAAGGUUGUCUUCUCCAUAUCCUCUAGAGCCAUCAAAAUCUGAUUAUACCCUGAAAACCCAUCCAUGAAGUCAACAUUGAAUGGCCUGAGGUGCUAUCAACCAAUAAAUCAAUAUGAGGGAGAGGAAAGUCAUUUUUAGGGCUAGCUUUAUUAAGGUCUCUAAAGUCAACACAUACUCUAACUUUGCCGUACUUUUUGGGAACAGGGAUGACAUUAGCCAACCACUCUGGGUACUCAACCACUGAUAUGAAUCCAACACUGAGUUGUUUCUGAAUCUCCUUUUUCACCUAUAGACUCCAACGUGGAUGCAACCGUCUUAAUUUCUGCUUAAUUGGUUUGGCAUGUGGUGUUGAACUAUAGAGGGAUCGAGGUUAGGCAUGUCCUCAUAAGACCAUGCAAAGACAUCUAAGUAUGACCAGAGUAAAUAAAUAAGUCUAUCCCUCUCAUCUGUAGAUAAGGGUGAACCAAUCUUCAGCUCUCUAGGCUAAUCCUUUGUGCCAAAAUCAACAGUCUUAACAUCCCCUGUAACUGGUGAAACUCUCUCAUCCAUGGGGUUUGAGUCAUGAUAAAAAAAAGCCUUUAUCUAAAUAGAGCUGUGCAAUCUCAUAAUUUAUAUCCAAUAUCUGUGGAGUGGGUGAAUAGGGUACAAAUAUAGAGAUACUAUCAUAAGAGAUAAGAAAAUACUAAAAAAUACUCAAAUCCAUAAAUGAAGCAAUAGAAACAUCGUCAGAGCAGGAGACAAAUCCUGAUAAAACAUCAAAGAAAAGAUGUGGAUCCACAAGGUUGGACGCUCCCUUAACUGGGCUAACAGUGCCCUCAAACAAACUACCAUCAUCCUCUAGAACCUCUAGAGCAGGAAUAGUCUAGGUCUCCUCAAUAACCUCAAUAGUAGACACCCCAAACAUAUCAAAUGGUGAAACUGGUUGAAGCUGAACAAUGUUGCUGAUCUGAAUCAUGGUUAUCAUGUCCAUCUCAUCUCGGUACUCAUCAUGGAGAACAACUCCAUUAAUCAUCUCAGUGGUAUCGACGACCACUCCCUCAUCAAUGACCUCCUUUGGGAAGCAUAGAAACAACAAACUAGCUCGAUCUAGAGACGGAGGAGCAAUUUCCAUAGAAAUAGAAGUGUCAGGAGCCCCAUCACUCAAUUGUGACCAGUGAAAUAGAUGUUGAAGCUCGAUCUCUCUAUCUAUAUGAAUCACACUAUCAAUCUCCUCUAGACGGGGUUGAAUCUCUGAUCCUUUGACAAAGUAGUUGGUCAAACUUAUCCUAUAAGAUCGAAUAGGAUAAUCAAAUGGUGUGUGAGACAAACGGGCCCUCACUCUCUCCUUGCAUAGUCAUGCCAUGUAUCGGUAAUCAACCUCACUAGGAAUGAACCCAAGUUCAAAUGUCGUAUCAUGGUCAAUGGCAGUUAUAAACUCACUGGGUCCCUACUGAUGUCAUUCUAACCCCAUGCCAGGUAGAAAAGUCAUACCCCUCAUCAUAUCAAGAAUCAUUGUGUGUUGAUCAAAUGACAUGGCUACAAAAUCUCUACAAAAAUCCUCAAUCUCAAGAGUUCGUAUCUCAUCAAAAGUAAACCCAGUUAGAAAUAGGUCAUCCUCACUGUGAUUGGUCUGAAGUACUGGCUCAGAAGAGGCUAACAUAUCUCAGAUAGACUAUACUGUGAUGACUUGCCCAUCAUGAAUGAACUUCACCUUCUGAUGAAGGGAAUAAGGAAUAACUCAUGCUUUAUGAAUCCAUGGUCGGCCUAGUAGCAUGUUAAAAGAUGUAGGAAUCCUCAAAACCUGGAACAAAGUAGAGAAUGUGGCUAAACCAAUCCAUAAAUCAAUCACUAAGGUACCCAUAACCUCUCUCUUGGUGCUAUCAUACUCUCUGACUGUCCAAGUAGAGGGACCAAAAUCCGAAGGCGUGAAACCAAGGGCUAUAGUAGUGGUUAAAGGGCAGACGUUCAGGGUUGAGCCAUAGUCUAAUAGGACAGAUGGAACUCUAUGGCAUGAACAACCAACUAUGAUAUAUAGAAGGCGUACAUGGUCUGAACCAUCAGGGGACAAAUCAUCAUCUGAAAACACAAUGCAAGUGGCCUUGCUGGUCGUCAUUAUAUGAAUCAAUCCCUCUAGAGUGGUUGGGUUCUCUACUCUGAUCUGACUCAAGGCUCGAAUCAAAGCAUCUCUAUGAGUACUAGAUGAUGCUAAUAAGCUCCAAAUAGAAAUACGAGCCUGAGUACUAUAUAACUAUCUCAAAACCUUAUCAUCAUCUCUCUUAACCUCCUUAUGAGAGGCUACACCCUCAAAUGGUUUGACUGCUAGUGGUGGUGGUGGAACUAUCCUCCCACUAAGAGUCACAAUCUGUAUCUCUUUUUCCUCUAAAUCAUCAUCCUCUAGCCACAAAGUGAAUGGGACAGUGAUAUCCUAGUAUCUGAUAACCAAAGGUGUAGAAUGAACCAACUAGAAUGGCGCCCCAUCUGGGAUCAAAUUGAAUGGUGCAAGAACCCGCAGACCUAAUAAAACCCCAUCAACCUCACUACUGUCAUGCAGAACAAUUGGCUUGGGUAAUCCAUCAUCCUAACUCAACAUAUGUAUACUGUCAUCCUCUAUAAAGUCUAUGUGAUGGAUAUCUCUUGGAGGUGGAGGCACUGCAUGUGUAGAAUGGGCGGGAAGAGGGUUAGUGGUCACACUUGGCUGCCCCAAGUUAACCAAACCCUGGUCUAACAAGUCCUGUAUAGCAUGUCUCAAAGCAAUGCAAUGGUCUGUAUCAUGCCCUAUACCCUGAUGGUAGGAACAAUGUAAAUCCAUCCUGAAACGAGGUGGUAUGGGCUGGGGUAAAGGCCUAGGAGCUAACUGAGUCAAUAAACCAUCCUCUAUGAACUUGUGGAAAGCUCGGCUCAAAGACAUACCUAGCUGGGAGAACUUUCAUGUCGACCUUUGUACAUAAGUAGUGGUCUGUGGGGCUUGGGGUUGAGGGUAUGACAUAGGAGGUCUCUCUGUGAAAUGUGCAGAAAAAAUAGGUUGUGAGACUGGAUGUAGAUAAUUAGGAAUGAUGGGUCUAGAAGGAGCAGGUGGUUUAUACUGCACAUGAUGUGAGGGUGGGUAAUAGAAUCCAAAAGUCUACCCAACUGUCUGAUAAAGUAUAGGAGGUCUCAUCCUUGAUGAAUUGAUAGCACUUACAUCUCUUGGUCUUUGUCCUCCUGAAGUCUUCUUCCCCUUAAAGUCAGUAGGAGAAGACUCGGGCCACAAUCCUCUGGCAAUGCCCUCCUCUAUACCAUACAAAGCCGGUACCAAAGAUCCAAAAUCCUUAUAGGGAAAUCCCAUCAAGUGUUUAGCAAAUCUAGGCUGCAAACUCCUCAAAAUCAUACUAAUCUGAUCCUUCUCUGAAAGACGAUCAAUAAUUUGUGAAAUCUUCUCCCUCUAACGGGAGAUAAAUGAAGUGACUAACUCCUUUGGCCUCUGUCUCAAUGCCUCUAGCUCUCUCCUCGAAACAUCAAUGAUAGUGUUAAAUGAAAAAUGUCUCAAAAACUCCUGGGCCAGAUUAUCCCAAGUCCUACGGCGUAAUACACCCAAUGAAGCGAACCAACAUUAUGUCGCACCACUCUAGAAGAUAGGGAAAAGCAUAACCAUUUGGGUCUCAUCUAGUCUGUGGGUCCUCAUAACCGUACUAUAGAGCCUCAAAUGGAUACGAGGAUAACCUAUGCCCAUGUAUCUCUCAAUCUCAAGCAUCCUAAACUUGGUCGGUAAACUGGCCAAUAGUGCUCCAUCAAAAUCCUCCUAAGUAAUAACUAAUUUUGAAGCCCUCAUUUGUCUCAACCUCUGCUCGAGUCUAUCCAUACGUGUAUGUGGGUCCUUUGAGGUCGGGAUAGGCAAUGUGAUAGGAGGUGGGGCUACCUCGGUCUGACUAUGCAGAGUGAAAAGUAUAACCUAUGGUGUUGAUUGACUGGGUGGAGGAGAUAGUGGAACUGUGGUAUCGAACCGGGCACUCUCCUAAACUGGGACCUGUUGGGCCUACUGCCCAUCUAUCAUUUGGCCAAGAUUAGCUAUAGCUUCCUGGAUCAAAGCCAUAACUGCAUCAAAAUGGUCAAUGGUAACUAUCUAUGAGUCCAUAUCUCUCUAAUCUGAUCUCUGAUCUAACUGGUCUGAUACUCUAUUCAAUCUAUCUCCAACCCUAAUCCAUGAAGGUGAAUCCAGAUCGGUCACAGUAAAUCCUCCUACAAAUAUGGAAACACUAGAUAAGGUGCAGUAUGAAUGUGACUCUAUAGGAAUCAACUGACAAGUGCAUAAAAGUAUAGCCCAAAUAUACUCAAUCUGAUACCCAUCUUUGAUCACACCAAAAGGAGACUAUGGAAGGGAUAACCGAACCUAAUCAUGACCAAGACAACUCUAAAGGUCCACAGAUGCACCUACGUGUAGGAAUGAAAUCUUAAUUGGGUCUAGGUUAACUUACAGGGUGGAGAUGGCUCUACAGGAUAAAAUGGGUGGGUUAAAGGAUCCCUAGCAGAAGUUAUCAUACCCUCCAAUGGUACGCAACCCUUUGCACGCCUCCAAGGAAACUAGGUACUUCCAUGCAAGGUGGUCAUCACCUCCACACAUGCACUUCCUCACUUUCCCAGGGGGUUUCUUAAAGGUGAAGGCUCUCUCAUCUCUCAACACUUAGGGACAAUGUAAAGUGCACAAUGAAGGAUGUGGGUGCAUCCGAAAAACCUAAGAUCUAAAGUGAGAUAAGGAACAAAGAUAAACAAUCAUACAAUCAUGCAAGAGAAAGGGUUAUCAUGCAACAAACAGUCAUGCGAAGCAAAUAAAUAUCAAACAAUCAAAGUUUUAUCUAUCAUAUGUGAGAGUGAAUCAUGCUGAAGUGAGCAAGCAAUCAAGUGAUCAUCCUAGGCAAUCAAACAUGUUAAGAUAGCAAACCCAACAAGCAAGCAAAUCUAAUCACCUUGUCCAAAAAGGGGGUACCCUCUAAUCGACCAAUUAAACGCCACAUUUUCCUCAAAUAGUGUACAAGCUUGAUCCUAAAACUCCCCAAUGGAGUCACCAAUUUAUGGACCUGCAUUUUUCAUGUGUGUCCCCACUUGAACGGCGAGACUCACUUUUAUUUGUGAAAAAUUAAUUUUUGGAAAAGUCGGGGUUGCCACUUAUUUUAUUUUUAUUAUAAAGGGAAAAUAAAACAAGAAAGAAAACCCUAAAAAGUAACUCCAUAAUUUUUGGAAAAAUCGUGUCUUUGAAAAACCCGAAUCUAGGUUCGGGGAUCAGGUUACCUAUUGGGAAGGUACUUCUAAAAGGUAGCACCCUUCUAAGCCCUAUAAAGGUCUCUACUAACUAAGUUGAGGGAAAUAUGGCAAUUAACUGGUUAAUCAUGGAUACCUAAGUAGGCUAGGUGAUUUUGAAAAAUAACAUGCUUAACAAGAAAAUCGAUCACAAUCAUGAAGAAUAUUUAGGGUGCGUACAUGGACUGCUUCUUAAGCACUAUCACAAGACAUCAAAGUUAGUUCAAAUAGUAUGUCAUCUAGCAUGUGUUUUAUUAGAAAUAAUCGAACAAUGAAACAUGUAUAUCAAAACACUCAAUCACUAUAAAAAAUAGGCAUAAUUCACAAUGACAAACAUACUCAUAGAAUAUAGAAAGUGGGUGAUAGGGGACGUACCUGGAUAGCAUAGAUAACUCAUUAUAUGCUUCCUUUGGACAUGGGGGUUAGGUAAUAAAUAAUAAAAUAAGAAAUCCUAGCAUGCUUAAUAUCUAAUUAGCAUAGCAAAAAUGAUUACAAUAUACGAAAUCAUCAAUUAUCACUUAUAUCUUGUAUAUAAUUCCUAAAAAAUAAAUAGACAAGAUUACAACAAAUAGCAAAGGUGGUAGAAAAAAUAAGUUUUGAAAAGAUUUUCUUAUGUAGGGGUUUCACCAAUUCCUCAAUCGAUAUACACAAAUUUAUCCUAAAAUUAUCCAUUCAUUUGGGACCACAAGCUUUGAUUUGUGUUUUGUUCAAAACCAAAAUUUUUAUUGAAAAUCAAGAAGGAUGCAAACAAAUCAAGAUAUGAUUGCAUAUUAUUAAUUUUUUUUUUUUUUUAAAAAAAAAAAGAGAUUUUGAUUCUAAAGCUCUAAAUGAAUUUUCUUUUUGAAUAGAUUUUUUAAAGGGAUCUUUUGAGAAAAAGUGUUUUGUUUUAAAAUAAAAGAAAUUAUUUUUUAAAAUAACAUAACAUAGAAAACAAAAAUACCAACCAAAACAAAAGAAAACGGAGAUCACAAAAUAAAGAUUUAGACAAUCAUGCCAAUUAAAAUGGUGAGAGUAAGGCCAACCUUCAUGGGUUUCCAACGGCCUUAAAAAAAAUAAAAAAUUGACUAACAAUCACUAAGGCAAAAAACGAACGGCUUCCUAAUCAAACAAACUAACAAAAAUAUUAUCCAAAACUAACAUCUAGAUUUCAAGAAACACAUAAUAAAAAAAAGAACAAUCAAAGAUUAAAGCCAACAAAUUUAGCAUAUGGAGAUAAUACUACAGGGUCAAUUAAGGUAAAUUAACAUUCUAACAAAAUAUGAUAAAUCAAAGACCAAAGUUUAGUAAUCUUAAAAAUAUGAAAAAAAAUAACAUGCAAUUAACUAGAUUGACUAUCCAAAAUUCCUAAAAACUCGAACUAAAUAUUAAUAGAUCAAAACCAAAAUAUGCUAUACUCAAAAUAUGAAAAAUAAUAUGUGAUUGACUAAAUUAAUUAACCGAAACUCUAAAAACACUAAAACCAAAUAUUGAUGGAUCAAAAUUAAAAUUGCCAUAUUUAAGACAUGAAAAUAAUAACACAUGAUUAACUAAGUUAAUUAACUAAAAUUAUAAUCAACUACAAAAUUGGAUAUAAAUGGAUUAAAAUCAAAAUUAACGAAAUCGGAAAAAACACAAACACAUUCAAACUGAAAAAAAAAAAAUUAAUACUGGAUUAAAUUAGAACUAAAAACAUCAACAUCAUCUAAUAAGAUUGGUUAAAAUAUCAAAUUGAAAUUUCAAAUACAUUUAAACUAGAACAAAUAAAUAAAUCAGCAAAUUAGAACUAAACUAAAAUUGGAAUUAAAAAUAUGAAAUUCAUCUAAGAGGAGUAAUCAAAUAAUUAAAUUAACACCAUAAAUGCAUUCAAAUUAUAAAAUAUUAAAAUUAAACUAAAUUGAAAUUAAGAUAUAUCUAAUAAGAUUAUUUAAACUGAUGAAUUAAAAUCAACAAAUACAUUUAAGCUAAAAACAAAUUAAAACCAAACCAACUAGGAUUAAAAACACAAACUUUAUUUGACAAAAUUAUUUAAACUAAUGAAUUAAGAUCAAUAAAUGCAUUUAAACUAAAAACAAAUUAAGACCAAACUAACAAGAAAAAAAAAACACAAACAUUAUUUGACACGAAUAUUUUAACUAAAGAAUUAAGAUCAACAGAUGUAUUUACACUAAAAACAAAUCAAAAUCAAACUAAUUGGAAUUAAAAACACAAACUUUAUUUAACAUGAUUAUGUAAACUAAAGAAUUAAGAUCAACAAAUGCAUUUAAACUAAAAACAAAUUAAAUAAAACUAAUUGGAAUUAAAAACACAAACUUUAUUUGACAUGAUUAUUUAAACUAAAGGAUUAAGAUCAACAAAUGCAUUUAAACUAAAAACAAAUUAAAAUCAAACUAAUUGGAAUUAAAAACACAAACUUUAUUUAAACUAUCAUACAAAUUAAGAUAAACUAACAUGGAACUAAUAAACUGCAAUCACUAAAAGAAGACAUCUAAUUUAAGAAAAAAAAAAUUAUACAAACUGAUAUUCAAAAGAAUUUAUCACAAAAAAUUGAUUAAACUAACAAACUAAAGUCUAAAAAAAAAAAUGCUCUAUCGAAAACGAAAACUACCCUGUGUUGUGUCUGAACUUGAUGAUUAAAGUGGCAACCCGAUCUCCGUUCGAAGUCCCUUGCUCUCUUCCAAAAUUCCGCGUGUUCUCUCUAAAAAAGAUCCCCCGCGUGUUCUCUCAGUCUCAAAAAUUCUCUUGUGCAUGUCAUUUCUUUUAAAAAAAUAUCUACGUGCUCUCUUUGCCAAAAAAAAUCCUCCCUCCCGAAUUCCUACACAUAUCCUCUCUAAAAAAAUUACUCUUGCUUGUCGAUCUCCAAAAAAAUCUCCCAUCUCUUAUGUUCCUUCUAUCUUAUUUAUAUGGUAGCCCACCCUAUGGAAUAUUUUAUUUCAUUUUUUGAGAUGUAAUUCUAAUCUUAAAGGAGACCCAACUUUCUAAACUUCUAAUGGCACUUUCUAUUUCAACUGACUUAAUAAAAGAAACAUGCCAACCCUAUGAAUGUUGUCUGGUGGGCCCUUGGUCAUAUUCCCCUUCUCUCUUCCAACCAACAACACCUAUAACUAGUAAAGUUGCACUGGGGACUGAUUUAUCUGAAAGCUUGGAUGAGAAUGGAGAUCAAACUCCUUCUUGGGUAAUGUAGAGCUUCAAAAUUUAUGGAGAAAGAUUUUGUGGAUAACCAAAGUCCAUGAUUUCAUCCAAUAGCUCAUAAAUUAGAACAAAGUUGUUACGAAUAGCAUCUUCCUUGAAAGCCCCACCAAAAUAAGAUUUGAAUAGCGCAACAGCCUCAACAACAAACUUGAAUGCACAAGUUACAUUAGCAUUGCUACUGACCACAAUCACAAUGUACACAUUGUUGAUUUUCAUAUAAAAGAAGGAAAAACCUCCACUUUGCUGCAUAGGACAUGUGCCAUGUUCUUUUGUUUGCAUUUUAUGCAUUCAAAAGGCAUCUAACAUGUUUUCCCCGACAUCGUCGCGAUAUAGGCGAUUGAUGAGGACAUCGCUCGGGAGAUUCAAGAAGUAGAUAGCAGAAGUAGCCACCGAAAUCUCUGAUCCAAUGGAUUCGAUGCCAAACAAAUCAAGGAAUGGGGUUUCGAUCUACGGUGUUUGAGGCCUUGUUUCAACGAUGUCAUUUUUAUUGGGUUGGAUCUCAAGCUCUAGAAAUGAUGAACCUAACUCUCCUAAACAAGAGUUGAAAAUAGCGCAAUUGAUCUUGUGUUCUAAAUGCAGUGUGGGCGAUAACUCUGGCAGAUCUGUAACAGCAUCUAGGGUUCCGAUGUGGGUGAGGUGGAGAAAGGGGCAACGAUGGUGGUGGGGAUUCACGAUGGGGGGAGAGGAGAGUGGCAAGAAUGUUCUUACCUGCGUUAUCGAAGCAGGAGAGGAGAGCCCUGGGGGAAGGAUUGCGAUCGAUGAAGGAGGUGAGAAUAUGGGUUCUGUUCUCGACAACGGUGCAGAAGGAGAAGAUGAGCAAAUGUGAGGAUAUCAAGCAGCGAAGGUGGAGGUAGAGGAGUGGUCAUGGCAUGAGAUGGAGUUGUGAUGUGAGUCUUCUAUUUCUGUCUUCUUUGUGAGUGUAUAUGGGUCCCCACCUUGCGGGCUGCUCCUCUUCAGUUGUGACCCCCCUCUCUUUGAUCGAUCCAAGUGAUAUGCAAAACUAAAAAAAAAAUUGGAAUAAGAAAACCUUAUGAUUGGAAAUAUAAUAAAAUAAAAUCGAAAAUCAAAUCAUCUGCCACAAAAAAAUCUAAGAUGUCAAUUCAUGGAAUUAAAGAAUAUAUAAAUAAGUGGGUAAAUAAACAAAUAAAUUGAUAAGGGUAUACAAAUAAAUAUUAUACAUAUGCAAUUAGAAAAAAUAAAGAAAUUAAAUUAAUGCGAUGGAUCAUAACAAUUUAAAUGUCACACUCAAACCAUCAAAAAUAAGAAAAUAUUCAUUUCAUGCAAUAUAUAGUUAAGCCAAUACUCAUUUUGUCUCGCAAAAAUAAAAUCAAGAACAUGCCUAAAUGAACUAUGCCAAAAGAAGUGUCCAAGUGACCUAUUCUAAAAAAGUGCUUUGGUGAGCUCAGGUGAAUGUGUGCAAGCUGAAAGGUGUUUAGGUGAAUCUAAAUGGGUAAAGGAGAACCUAAGUGGGCCUAAGGUGGUGCCUAAUGGGCCAAGUGUAUCUAAAUGGGCCUAGUGUGAGACUAGGUGAGCCUAACAAAGACUAACCUAAAGUGCACCUAAGUGAAACUUAAUCUAAACUUGAAGGACAACCAAGGUCAUAAUAUGGAACCAGAUAAACCCCUUAACCAAAGUCUCCAAAGUGGCUCAGAAAAGGUAAGCUCCAAGAGUAGGAAUGGGCUAUCAAAGAAACACUGUGGAACACUGGAAGUGAACUUAAAGACAUGUUCUAAAAGGACAAAAUGGAGGGUCUACAACAUGAAGGUUGGCCAUACUCUCACCACUUUAGUCGGCUUGGUUGUCAAAAAUUUUAUUUUGUGAUUUUGUUUUCCUUUGGGUUACCUAUGUUUGAUCCUUGAGUAUUGUCGUUUGUAAAUUAUUUCUUUCAUUUUAAAAAGAAACAUUUUCUCAAAUUGUUCCUCAUUAAAAUGCAUUUCAAAAAUUCAUUUAGAGUCCUUAGAAUCAAAAUCUCAUUUUCUUAAAUAACUUGCAACCAUGUCUUAAUAGAUUUGCAUCUUUCUCAAUUUUCAAUAAAAAUUCUGGCUUUGAGUAGAAUACGAAUCCAAGUUUGUGGUCCUAAAUAAAUGGGAUAAUUCUAGGCUAGAUUUGUGUAUAUCAAUUGGAGAAUUGGUAGAACCCUUACGUAACAAAAAAUUUCAAAACUCUUCCUUGCUACUAGUUUUCACUCAACCACUGACUCUUUAGCUUUCAAAUUUGUUUCAACAACUUUAGAAUAUAUAUAUUUUUUUUUAAAUAUCCAAAUCUUGUAUGAUUUUUCUCACUUCUUGAACUUGAAUUUGAAAUUUCGUUUGAGUUAGAAAGCAAUUUUGGAAUAGAAGAUAUAAAUGAGUUUUUAGGAGGGCUCUGUUUUCACCUAGUUCUGGACACUUGAAAUAUUUUUCUAAAAAUAAAAUAACAUAUGACUUUUUUAAUUUGAUUCAAUAUUUUUUCUUAAUUCAAGAAUUCUUGAAAUUGAUUUAGAGAUAUAAAAUAUUUUAAAAAAUAUGCAUUUUUAAGGCAGAUAUGAUUUUUCAAAGUCAUACCUAAUGCACAUGAUGGAAUCUAGACAUCUAAUUAGUUGGAGUGUUUCAAAAAUAUUUUUGAGUACUAUUCGACCCUAGAUUUAUUUUUCAUGUGCUAUAGACCUUUGACCAAUGUGUGUGAUUUUUUGUAUGAUUUUAUGUGAUCUUUUAUUAUUUUUAAAAAAUUGAUUUAUGCAUGCCACUUUUUCUUUACCUAACCUACACUUUGUGGAACUUUUGGGGUGUCUUUGCUGCAAUCUGUCAUUUGAAUGAGUGUUUGGUUUUUGGUAUGUUGUUCUAGAAUUGUAGGUGUUGUUUUCUAAAAAUUUUUGUAAUUAAAUUCAACUCCAAAAUAUUUUUUUUGAAAUUUCUUUUUGAUGCUUCAUUUUAUAAUUGCAUGCUAAUGAUCUUGUACAUUACUCUAGCAUUUUUGGAGGAAUUUUAUAAAUCGUGCAUGUUAUCUAGGUACACUUUCUAUCACUUACUUUUCAGAAUUCUAUGACCAUGCAUGUUGUUGUUAGCCUUAUUUAUUUUUGAUUCCAUCCUUGGGUGCCUAGAUGUUUGUUCGAUUUGCUCAAAUAAAAUACAUUUCGUGUGCUAACUUUAAUGUCUUAUGAUAGUGCUUGAGAGGCAGUCCAGGUACACAUCCUAACCUUCCUUUGCGAUUGUGAUUUGAUUUCUUUUUUGGCAUGCUAGUUUUGAAAUAACCUUAGCCUACCUAGGUACCUCCAAUCAAUUGAUUAAUUGUCACUUUUCCCUCGACUUAGUCAUUAAAGACCUCUUUAGGGCUUAAAGGGGUGCUACCUGAUUCGUGCCCAGUUAGGUAUUUUAAUAAAAAAUAUUUAUAAAUCCUAUGACCUCAUACUAGUGUAGUAAAACUACUAUAGUAUAGCAGCUCUAGGGUCGAACUCUGGGAUGGGUUUUCACUCUACCAGUGAUAGACUCAAGAUUAGAAAUUGAAUCUAAUGAUUUCCUUUGUCAAAAACUUAAAGUUUAAAAGAAAAUAAAAUUUGUUUUAAAAGUGGUGUUUGAAACUAAACUAACAUAGAAAUAGGAAAAAAUGGAAGAAAGAGAGUCUCCCGGAGCUAAAGGUUGCUAUGAUCAAGUUCAGAAUGCAAAGUGGGAAAUUCCGGAUUUUUCUCCUCGUAUUGGGGACAACAACAUAAAGGAUGGUUGUUUCCUGAACCGGUAUAGGUUUAACAAUGAAGAUUUAAUCCAUAAAAAGUCAAUAGAAAUGGUAAUCAAGUUCCAUUAAUGGCUUUAGACACUAUGGGUCUUCACCUUGACCCACUUUCCAAUAGCUUGUACAUGAUAACUAAUGGUCUUAUGUGGAUCUAGCAAUAAGUAUCCAUAGAGACCUAAAAGCUUAUCAUGUAUUGGCCAUUCAAAGUGAUUCUAAGGGAUUUAAAGCAAAACUUUAGAUUUAAAAGCCAUUUAUGAAAUCCAACUACCUGUAUUUAAUGCACGAGAGUUUUCCACUUUUGCAUCUGAACUUUUCACCUAGCUUCCUUCACUCCAAGAAACCAAAGGUUUAGCCUCUCAUCCUCUGGGAAAACAUCCUCAAAGGUUGUUUGGCUUCCAAGAAAAAGAAAAAUAGAAGAGAGAAAAGGAAAGCAAAGAGAACUCUGUAUUUCUCCCUGAGAGGAAAAUUUUACUAAGUGUAAAAAAUACAAUAAUUUGAGAGAUGAUUUCCACCCCUCUUAAAGUCUUUACAAAGCAAAGCCUGUGAAAAUUACAAGGAUAAGAAAGGAAUUUACAUCUAAAAAUACAGAAGAAAAGAUCUCAUGUGGAGUCGGCAGAACAGAGGAGAUUUCGCACCAAAGUCGCAUGAACAAUACAAGGUGCAAAAUUCGCACUUGCAUGGGCUGGUGCGAAAUUCGCACUUGCAUGGCAUUUUCGCAUGAACAGUACAAAGUGCGAAAUUUGCCAUUUUUAGCUCCUUAUACGAAUGGCAAUAUACCACUAUAGGUACUUGAUUUGUCAGAAAUUCCAAGCCGGUUUCGAAUAUGGGAUUCUUGAAAUGUGAUUUUGCACGAUGAACAAAAUAGAGCCUCCCAAAGUGACAGUGCACGGCUACAAAAACUGCUUCUUUCCUCUGUUUUUCCUCUUUGCUUCUCUCCUUUACUUGGCUUGUCUUAAUGAUCCAAAAAACUGUCAAAACACUAAAACUAGCCACAAAUAUGAUUAGAAGUCAUUGCUAGGUCCUUAACAUGCCAAUUGGAAUAAAAAUGGAGAACUACUACACAAAAGUGCUUAAAACAUAAUGAAUUAAAGGCGCAAAAUAGCACUUUUUAGGUAGUAAUCACUACCUCUUAGAGGUACCUUCUUAAUAGGUAACCUGAUCCCUAGACCAAGACUUGGGUUUUUCAAGACUUGCUUUUCCAAAACAGUGGAGUCACUUCUUUAGGGUUUUCUUUCUUGUUUUAUUUUCCCUUUUAAAAUAAAAUAAAACAACUGGGGACUCCAACUUUUCCAAAACUAAUUUUUCACCAAUAAAAAAAGUCUUACCAUUGAGUAGGAACACACGUGAAAAAUGAAGGUCCAUAGGUGGGUCUUAAGGGAAUAGAUGGAGAAGUUGGGAAUUGAGGUUAGAUUUGAGGUUAAGGUUAAGGUUAGAGCUAGGGUUUCAUCUAUGGAUGGUAAUGAAGAUACAUAUAUAGACAUCCCUUGCAAAAUCUACCAAUAUGAUUAGUUUCUACUAUAUAAUCAACUGAAAUUUGAAUCAAUUCUCCUUCUCAAACUAUGAUAAUAUGAUUUUAGAUGGUUUUUUAUAAUGAUUUCUUUUCCUUUCAAUGAAACUAUAGAUCAAUUCUAUGUUACAACCCGAAUAAAGGAUCCUUAGGAUCCCUUAAUCUUUAGUUUCUAUUGCUAUUUAGUUUCUAUUUAGAUUAGGGAAUAAAGGAUCCCUAAGAUCCUUUAGUCUUUAAUUUCUAUUUAGUUUCCUAUAUAAAAUAAGAAGAGUGUAAUGGGGAAAGAAAUGGAAAAAUAAUCUCAAUAAAAAAAAUUUGUUCUCUCAAUUUUGCAUCUUCUCCUUUAGUCAUAAGAAUUGGUAUUAGAACACGGUCUAGGCACCAAUCAUGGCGGAAAGGACUAGAGUGUAAGAACAACAUAGACUUAAAGAUACUAUUAAAUAGUUGAAAGAAUCGUUGGAUAAACAAGCGACUACCUUAUUAGAACUAUCAAAGAUGGUUGCAAUCAUAAAAUUGAAAUUCAAACACAUAAAUUCAAGAAUAGAGAAGUCAAGUAAUGGAUAUAGUGUUUCAAUCAAUAGAAACAUGAUAGACUAUCACUAAUCUAUCAUAAACUCCAUUCAAACCAGAUUUUCCAAACUCUAUUUUCCAAAUUUUAAAGGUGAGAAUUGGGAAUUAGGAAAAGGUUGGAUUGGCUUCCUUACAUUUAAAACGAAGGGCCUUAGAAAGGUUUCAAGGGUAUGAGGCUAGUAACAAGGAAAUCAAUUGGACACAAUUUUAUAUAGAUGUUGUUUCUAGGUUUAGCCCUAGUGUUUAUGAUAGCCUUAUGGGGCAAAUAACCAAAUUGAAAUAGGUUUCUAAGUUAGGGCAUACCAAAAUUAGUUUAAAGUAUUGAUGACCAAAACUAGCUAGUGGGUUAUCAAAGAAAUUUUUUUUCUAGUGUUUCAUUAGUAGCUUGAAAGAGGUAAUUAAAAAUCAAGUAACUAUGUUUCAACCAAUCACACUAGUCCAAACCAUCAAGUUAGUCUUGUUGCAGAAAUGAAUAAUGGAGGUAAUUCUCAAGGAAUUCAAGGACUCUAACGAAAAUGGGGAGAGUACAGUGAGCUUUACAAGAAUCAUAAUGAAUCAUAAUAACAAAUUACCACCCCUUCAGAAGAUUUUAGACGUAGAAGUGCAAGAGAGAUGAAAAAAAAAAAGUUUUGUUAUUAUUAUGAUGAGAAGUAUGAGUCUAGUUAUAAAUAUAAAAUGAGACAAAAUUUUCUAUUAAAUGGUCAAAAAAGUGAAGGGAAAGCAACAUGUGAAGCUAAAAAUGAUAUAAAGAUGAUGAUCUUGUGGUUUUAAUCAAUGCAAUAUUUCGUUCAACAUCUCAUCAAACCAUGAGAAUCUGUGGCAACAUAAAAAAGAAGAUUGUCACCAUACUAAUUGAUUUAGGAAGCACCCAUAACUUCCUUGAUCUCAUAGUGGCCAAAAGAACAAGAAACUCAAUACAAACUACCAACCCCAUGAAGAUGGUGGUAAAAGAUGGAACUAAAAUUACUAGUGAUGCAAUUUGUAGGCAAUGUUAGGAUAGAACCCUUAAAAACAUGACAUAAUGUAAUAGAUUUGGAAUUCAUUGUUUAUUUAAUGAUGCCCCAGUUUCACUUUUAUCUAUCCUUAUUCCAUGUAUUAUACUUUAUAAGCAUUUUUGUAAACAUCAUUUGCAUUAUACAUGACUUAGAUGCAUUAAAAGUUGUACAGAAGAUCUAAGUCAUGAGUUCCUUGCAAAUAUAUGACUUAUUCACAACCAAUUCAUGGGUCUAGGCAACCCAUUAAAGGUUUUAGUGCACAACUUCCUAAUUGGAGGAAUGAUUGGUCUUGGCUAUUGGGAUGGGUUUCCUAUCAUGAGUGCACUAGUAUGUAUGAAUGCACAUUGGAUAGGACCUAUGGUGAGUUAUGACUUAAGGCUAUCAAGUAGUCAUGAUUUCACCAAGUUACUUCAUUAUGUUGUUUCUUAACCUUGAGAGAAUAUUAAGCUUGUAUUGAAAUUAGCAGUGGCUUUGACCUACGAGUGAGAUAGUAAGAUGAUCAUAUAUUCCUUAUGGAUUGGACCAUUGUUGAUGGAUGUCGGUAGCAAUAAGUAUUCUCAAUAGAAACACCAUGAUAUCUCUUAGCAUUAAGAUAGUGUGUCCCCUUGGGUGAUCCUAAGAACGUAUGUUCAUGGAAACUAUGGCCAUAGUAGUUCCUUAGAUGGAACUUGGCAUAGGCUCUUUCAAAGCUAAGAUAUGUCAAUUUAACACACAAUAGGAGGAUUUGUAAUUCAAGGAUGGUAGAGGUAGUCUUAAAAGACUGAUAGCUUUCACCUUGUUAAACUACAGACACUAAUUCAUAGGAACAUUGAACACAAUGGAUAGUAGGUCGUGGACUCGAGCACUUGGUGUCUCAUUGUUAUUUACAUAGGAUAUUGGAGUUCAAUUUAUUCUUUGUGUGGAAUAUUGAAUCCACUUUAGAAUUGGAUUAUGAGGGAACUGGUAUUCUUAUGGGCCCUAGUGGUCCCUACUUUGAGUUCAUAUACCUUGUUGACACGGAUUAUGAGGUUUGGAUUGGCUUUAGGUUCACUUUUGUACAUAAGGAUAUUUUGGUAAUUAUGCAAGGUUGCACAAAAGUAAGUGAAUAAGUUCUUUGGAUUGCGCUAAUUGAUUAAUUAGUAGGCCUUGUUAGGUUAACUAAUUAAUUAGGACCCAUUUUGGAUUAGAUUAAGUGACCCAAGCCCUUAGUGGACUCAAGUCACUUAAGCCAAGUAGGAAACCCUAUAAAUACUCCUUUAGGGGUUAAGGUUCCCAUUGGUUUUUUCUAGAGAUCCAUCUUCCAUCUCUAGAGAGAGAGAGAGAGAGAUUCAUAGCCUCUACUUUUCCUUCUGUCCCCACUGGAAGUGUGUCAAGAUCAAGUUUUGAGUCAUUGGGUGGAAAACUUUGGGUUUACAAGACUUCUAUGAUUUUGUUCUUCAUCUUCACCUCAUUGAUUUGAUUCGGGAACAUCCAAAUCUAAGGUAUGGCUUUCGUUAACACUUUAUGAAUCCCUUUAAAGUUUUAAAAUGCUAUUUUUUCGUUGUGCAUAGGAUUUAGAAAAAAGACUAGGAUAGUUAUUCAUGUUCCUAACCUGAUCCGAGCUUAGGAAAUGAAGAGAUUCGAGUUUUUCCUAUAAGGCAAUUGACAUGGAACAUGCAAGGGAAGAAAUUUUAGAUAGAUUUGAGGCUUAUACCUUUGAGUGGGUGUAAUAUGGUAUUGGGAAUUCAAUGGCUAGCUGAAUUGGGACUCAUAUUGUGGGAUUUCAAGAAUUUAAAAAUGGAAUUUAUUAUUGAUGGAAGGAAAUUCGUGUUGAAAGGUACAACUAUAGGUUCCAAGAAGCUAGUUUCAACAAAUCAAAUUUAAAAGGAUUUAAGGCAUAUGUCUCAAGUAUCUACAAUUCAAAUUUUCACUAUACAAGGGAAUGAGGAAAAUAAAGUUGAAAAGGAAUAACAUGGCAACUGUCUAACUCAUUUCCAAAAGAUAUAACAUGGAAAGUUUCUUACAAGAUUCAACAAAAGUUUUCAUAGAUUCAACCUUGAGGACAAGGCUUCUUUUGAUGUGGAAAGGAAUGUUACAACCCCAAAUAAAGGAUCCCUAAGAUCCUUUAAUCUUUAGUUUCUAUUUCUAUUUAAUUGGAGAAUAAAGUAUCCCUAAGAUCCAUCAAUCUUUAGUUUUUAUUUCUAUUUAGUUUCCUAUAUAAAAUAAGGAAAGUGUAAUGGAGAAAAACAUGAAAAAAUAAUCUCAAUAAGAAAAAUUUGUUCUCUCAAUUUUGCAUCUUUUCCUCAUAUCAUAAAAUUCUACAUGUGGAUUUUCUCCUUUUGAAGCUCUAUAUGAUACAAAAUUAAUUCUCUUUUACUCAAAUUCCAAGUAUGUAUUUAUAGAAAUGGGUAUGCUUUGACUCUCAAUGAACACAUUUUCUCAAUUUUUCUUCCUACCUAAGUGGAAAUAACAUAAGGCCAUUAAACUUGCUUUGAGAUUAAUUGUGGUUUUGACAAGCAUUUCAUCUAUAAUUCAUUUAUGCAGAACUAGGUAUAGUACAAGACCUCCUAAACAAAGUUUCUAACAGUAAUGAAUUGAAAAGAAGCUGGGUAAAACAAGUUUCUACUCACCAUCCCAAACAUUCCUUUAGAUGUAUUGUAUGGUAGAGGAUUAUUCUUUUAUUAUUAUUAUUAUUAUUAUUGUUAUUAUUAUUAUUAUUAUUAUUAUUAUUAUUAUUAUUAUUAUUAUUAUUCUUGUUUUCUUUUCCCUUUUAAUGGUUUAUAGUAGAUUCAAAUGCCAUUAUAGAAGUAGAAUUUCCUAAUUUAAUUUGUUGGACAAAUUUUCUUUGGUUUUACUAUAUUUUGUGUUUUGAAUACAUACAAAUCGAAAUAUAAUAAGAAAACAAUUAUAAUGUGUUUUUAAGGGGAAUUUUUUUAUCUUCUAUUAGCAAAAAAAAUAAAAAUCAACAAUUAUAAUAAUAUAGACAUUUGCAAUUUUUUUAAAAUGUCUCUGUUAGGACAUUGAGUUUUAUUUGUAUGUUGGUAAUUUUGUUCCAAUUUAUUUUUUGCCUUAGAAAUCUUUUUAGAUAGUGACUUAAUUUCCAUUGAAGAUCAAGGAUUGCUACUUGUCCAAUUGGAAAGUCAUAGGCACGUUUAAAAGGUUUGACUUGUGGCAAAUUGGGGUUCUAAAGGGUAUAAAUAAGAGCAUUAUUCUUUUUCUGGGACUGCUCGAGCGCUUAACUAGCACUCGAAUGCCCAAGGUGCUCAAGCAAUGGUUAAGUGUGCUUGGCCUCAAGCUCUCGAGUGUUCAUGCCGAUUCUACCAAAGAUUAGCAUAAUAUUUACAAAGAUUUCAUGCAAAUCCUAUAUGGAAACCUUGAGAUACCAACUCUCUUCAGCCUCUAAGCUUGUAUAUACCCCAUUAUGCCCAUUCUAAGGUUAGGAGAUUGAUUUAUUGUUGCUACUAAGAGAGAGCCUCCUGGAAAGAAAGCAUAAUGAGCCACACAAUUCCUAAUCUCUCAUUUGAAGGAUUCAUUCAAUAAUCUAGGGUUGAAAACUUGCAUCCCUUCAAUAAGGCUAAAGAGUAUUCAGUGAAGCAAUUAGAGAUUGUUGUAUCAUAUACGUGGAUGAAGUUGUAGGUAUUGGAGGGUAAGCCUUUAGGAUAAAACAACCAGGUAAAUUUGUGUAACUUGAUCUUGUAUAGUGGAUUUUGAUUAGUAGUCUUAAGCCUUGUGGUUUUUUUAUCUCCACCGUAGUGUAGGGAUUUUUCAUGUAAAAAUCAUUGUGUCCAUUGCUAUAUCUUGUGAUUAUCAUGAUUGUUUAGAUUCUAUUUAUCUCUAAUAUUAUCUCAUAGGGUAAAAAUUGAGUAUAACAUAUAAUCUUUAUUUUAGAAUUCUUUUAAUUACACCCAUUCACCUCUCUCUUCUCUUUGGGUGUUACCCUACUAGACUUGGCUUUUUUAGUCUCAAAAUCUAUAUUAGCAUUUUUUUUUUACUUGAGUUAUAAAUGGAAAAAGUUAUAAACUCGAGAUAACUUGUUAAAAAAGUAAGAAAUAAUAAAAGGACUUGUGUUAGAGCAUAAAUAACUAAUCCAUUCUAGGCUUAAUAUAGCUCCAAUGUCAAAUAUGAAUACUUAAUUAUUUAUUAUAUUUUGAAAAUAAAGUAAGUAUUUUUUAUAUAAAAAAUAAAACAACUUUUCUAGAACAACACAAGGCACUAAUGGAUAUAGUUGGUAACAAGUUGGAGAAACAAAAUAAUGUGGAGAAAUAAAACAACAUGUAGAAAUAAAACAACUUGGAGAGAAAGAAAAUGACUAACUGAAAAGGAAAUAGAGAAAUUAUAGAAUGUAAGAUAAUUACACUUAUUUUCAUAAAAAUAAUAUAUUCUAAUACAUUAAAUAAGAAUUAUUUUCCCAAAAAUGUACUCCCCAUGAAAAUGACUUUUGUGGGUUUUCUUUUAUUUAUAUUUUGUAAAUAGUGCAUAUUUACAUAAUUCCCUCAUAAAUAUAAUAUAAUAAUCUAUACCUGAUAAUUAAGGAAAUUGAAAAUAUUUACAUACUAAGCAAGGAUAAUGGAAAUUAAAGAGUAUGUCCAAAGAGAACAAAAAUAUUAAAGAUAAAUUAAAACUCUAAAAUACAAGCCUUAAUCUACACAUAUAGGCCAACAUCUUAGGACGUAUUUGAUUAAAUAAUAAUAAUAAUGAUUAAAAAAUAGAAAAAAUUAUGGGUCCCAUUUUUUAAGUGUUUUCAAUAACAUAAUUAUAAACCCCUUAAAAUUUAAAAUCAUUUAUUCAAACCACUUUAUUCAUUUAGCAACAAGGACUUAAUUAAUCACUAAGAUCAAACACAAUGAUUUAUAAUUUUUAUAAUUUUUUCUUCCAUUACUAUCAUUUUCUUUUUUAAUAAAAUGAAGAUUUCUAUUGAUAAUUUUUUUAUAAUAAAAUGUAACUUCUUUUAAAUUAAAACAUUUAUUAUUAAAAAAUUUAUUUUAAUUCAUCUAUGAGAUUAUUUUAACGAUUUUUUUUUUAGAAUUUUAAUAAUUUUUUUGUUUCAUAGUUAAAGAUAAAAAAAUUAUUAUUAAAUCAUUUUAUUCAUUAUAAAAUUUAUCUUUCUUUUCUAAAUCAGAAUUUUUGUCAUGUCCAUUCAUAUAAUAAAAUUAAAAUUAUAAAUAAAAAAACCUAAUUUAAUUGAUAGCACCAUGGAAUCUUUCCAUGCACACUCAUGCAGCCAUCAGUUCCCACAACAGCCACGUGUCUUCCAACGAGUAUAUUCCCUUUCUUUGGCUCUCCAUGUGUUUGUGUUCUAUUUUUAUUUUUUUAUUUUAUCUUAAUUAGUAGUUCACAUAACAAGCAUGACAAGGAUGAGUAGAUAUGUCACUUCUAACACUAAACCCACUUAAACCAAAGUGAAGUAUGAAUGCAGUAUGCAAGUCUAAAUAAUGGUGAAAUAAUAAAAACAACGGAGAAUGCAUGUAAGAUGUGUAUAUAACUAUAAAUAAGGAUUAAAAAUGAAGGGAAAAAUCAUUGAGAAGGGUGAACCAUGGGUGAUAAGCCACUUAGUUCAUCAUUUGGAUAAAUAUUAAAAGUUAAAGAGUAUAAAAUGUCUACGUAUGUCAUCAUUUUUUUAAGUUAAAUAUAUUCUUAUUGUUGUAAAUUAAGUAAUGAAUGUCACCACAUUUAUUAUAUUAAAUUUUCAUUAAAAGCCUAUAAAAAUGUUUCCUAUCCUCUGUAAAUUUCAUCCUAAGCAAAGAAAGAAACUUUCUUUCUCUCUUAUUUUAUUUUUAUUUUUUAUUCUUCAUAUAUUUCAUUAUUUCAACUCUCUUAAUUCUCUUUUAUGAUUCCUUCCUUUCCAUUAUAUAUUAUUAUCAAAAUAAUAUAUAGUUGUUCUCUACUUUUAUUUGUGUUGCAUUUAUCCUUCUUUUACAACACGUUAUUAGCACGAAUUGCUCUGAAAGUAAUUCUCGUAUCUUAAACUUGAAGUUAUUUAUAUAGAAUAAAAUUUUUCAUAUUUAUAUUGCGAUUGUUAAAUUCAUUUAAUUUGUGUUAUAUAUUAUUAAAAGUUAUAAGCAAAUUAUUUGAUUUUGAUUGUAAUCAAAAGUCAUACCAAUGCUAUUAAUUUAUAACUAAUUCUAUUAAUAUUGUUUUGUCAUAUAUCUAAAGUUAUUUAAUAAUGUCAAAUCUCACAAAACUUGAAUUUGUGGCACUUGACAUUCCGAGAAAGAACUAUCCAUCUUGGAUCCUUGAUGCUAAAAUACAUCUCGAUGCAAUGAAUCUUGGAGCUACAAUUAAAGAAAGAAAUCAAGCAUCCUUGUAGGACUACUCAAAAACGUUGAUUUUCCUUCGCCAUCAUCUCUAUAAAGGUUUUAAAAAUGAGUAUCUUAUAGUAAAUGACAUUUUUACUCUAUGGAGUAAUUUGAAGGAAAGAUAUGACCACCAAAAAGUUGUGAUUCUCCCAAAAGCUCGAUAUGAUUGGAUGCACUUGAGGUUGUAGGAUUUUAAAACUAUUAGUGAAUAUAACAUAACUCUACACUUUUCAAAAUCAACUCUCAAUUAAAGUUGUGUGGAGAAAAAAUCACAAAAAAAGAAAAAACUUUACUAUAUUUCAUGCCUCGAAUGUGAUCUUACAGCAGUAAUACCAAGAGCAUAGAUUUAAAAAAUACUCUGAAUUAAUAUCAUGUCAUCUUGUUACUGAACAAAAUAAUGAGCUUUUGAUGAGAAAUCACUAGUCUCAUCCAAUUGGAUCUUAACCAUUCCUUGAAGUGAAUGCAAUAUCAUCCUAAACUCGUGGACAUGGACGAGGACAAGGAAAUGGUCGUGGUCGUGGAAGGAAUCCCCAAUAUAAUGGUUAUUAUAGUAAUAAUUCCUCAAAUCCUCAUAAAAGGAAAGCUUCAUUGCACCUCCAGAAGUGAAAUAAUAUUGAGGCAAAAUAAGAAAAUGGGAAAUGUUUGCAAGAUAAACCUCUAAAGAACCAUGAGAAUAAUUGUUAUAAAUGUGGUCUGAAUGGUCAUUGAUUGCAUACCUAUUGUAUACUCAAAAAUAUGAUCGACCUUUACCAAGCAUCAAUAAAAGCAAAAGGAAAAGAGAUAGAGAUGAACUUUACCUAUGGUGAUGGAUUGGACCUAACCUACUAAGACAUUGAUUUCUUUGGAGGUCUUAGUGAAAAAACACACUAUUUAAUAAAUGAUGAGAAUGCUAACAUUGAUUGGUGUUACAUUAUAUAUCAAAUAAUAUAUUAUUAUGUCUUAUAUUUAUAUCUGGUUAUUACAUUUUCUUUUAUAUUGUUAUUUAUAAUAUUAUGCCUUGUUUUUUUAAUAUUAGUUGCAUUUAAAAUCCAUGUGUUAUUUGGUCUUAAGAUGACUAAGGAUGAUGUAUGUCUCGUAGAUUGUGAAACCACAUACACAAUUCUUCGAGAUAAAAGAUAUUUCCUUGAAUUAACAUUGAUAAAAGCUAAUGUAUGUACCAUAAUUAGUAUUACAAACUUAGUUAAAGAAUCUGGAAUAGGAAACAUAAUGCUACCAAAUGGAACUAGAUUUCAUAUAAAUGAUGCUUUAUAUUCUAGAAAAUCCAUAAGAAAUUUGCUCAGUUUUAAAUAUAUUCGCAGAAAUGUACAUCAUAUUGAAACUAUGAAUGAAGAUAAUGUAAUUAUCUUUACAUUACUUCCAUUAUAUCUGGCCAGAAGCUUAUAAUUGAAAAACUCUCGGCUUUCUCCUCUAGGUUGUAUCAUACAACUAUAAAGCCUAUUGAAUCAUAUUUUUUCAUGAACCAGAAGUUCAACAACCCAAAAGUUUUUGUCUUUUGGCAUGAGAGACUAGGUCACCUAGGGUUUUCAAUGAUGCAUCAAAUAAUCAAACACUCACGUGGGCAUCCACUAAAGAACCUAAAGAGUCUUUUGCAUAAUGAAUACUCAUGUGCUGCUUGCUCACAAGGUAAAUUGAUAGUUAAACCAUCUUUUACUAAAGUCAUAUUUGAGUCACUAGUCUUUUUAGAAAGAAUACAUAGGAACAUAAGUGGGCCUAUCCAUCCACCAUGUAGACCAAUUCGUUAUUUUAUGAUCUUAAUAUAUGCUUCUCCUAGGUGGUCACAUGUUUGUCUCCUUUUUACAUGUAAUGUUGCCUUUGCUGGACUCCUAUCACAAAUGAUCAAAUUAUGAGCACAAUUCCAAUGUUAUCCUAAUAAGAUAAUAUGUCUUGAUAAUGUUGGCGAAUUUACUUCUCAAACAUUCAUUGACUACUGUCUAUUGGUAGGGAUAAAUAUUGACUAUCUUAUUGCUCAUACUCAUACCCAAAAUGGUUUAGCAAAAUCCUUCAUCACACGUCUCCAAUUAAUAACUCGACCAUUACUAAAGAAAACCAAAUUAUCUACUUCUGCCUAGGGACAUGCUAUUAUGCUUGUUGCAGCUUUAGAUCGUAUUCGACCUACAACUUACCAUUCCCUUCACAACUCGUACUUGAAAACAACCAAAUAUCUCACUUAUGAAUCUUUGGUUGUGCAGUAUAUGUACCAAUUGCACCUACACAUUGCAUUAAAAUGGGUCUCAAAUGAAGACUUGGGAUUUAUUUAGGUUUUAAUUCUCCAUCUAUCAUAAGAUAUUGUAAGAAAAAUUAGGCUAAUCCAACCUAAGGUAAUCACCCUAGAGAGGGUGGGGGGGGGGGGGGGUGAAUAGAGUGAUGAUCUCUUUUUGCAAAUUUAAAUUAUAUAAAUAUAAGAGAUAAUUAUAUGCAAAUAUAUAAUAAAACAAUAUAAAGACAAUUGCAUAUAAAGUAUAAGAGUAGGAAAGAGAGAAUGCAAACACUGGAUUUUUAUAGUGGUUCAGUGUAACCCAACUUACAUCCACUCUCCUCUAGCUUCAGUCCCAAGCUUGAGGUUCCACUAUUUCAAGGCUUCCAAAUCAAGCCUUCAAGCAAUAUAAUUGGAUUAUAGUUCCAAUACACGCUCUUGGAUUUUUGGCUCCAAACACCCUUUACAAUCCUUAAGAGAUACCCCACUCUUGAACAACCCCUCAUGUGAUACCCUACACUUGAGAAUUCCUAAAUGAUAUCACACAUUUAAAAUUUUCUUCUCAAAGAUUUACAAAUGAAGAUAAGAUUGAAAGGUGCACUAAUGAUAUGCAAGUUUUAGAACAAUGGUGCACUAAAAAAGACUCUCUCAAGGCUCAAAUAUAUUAAAGAAGGGUUUAAGCUCUUGAAACAAUGAAGAUUGAAACCUUUCUAUAGAGGAAAACGAUCAAACUAACCAUUGAAGGUUUGACCAGUCGAGCUAGGGGUCAACCAGUUGACUAGCCAUUAGCAUUUAAUGCUUAGUAGGUAACCGUUGGAUCUUGACCAGACCUCGAUUAGUUGAACAAGCGUUCUGGAAGAGAGAAAAGGUUUUUGCACCCGUCGACCGGUUGAGCUAAACAAGUCAACUAGUUCCUCAUCUGGUUCAACAGGUUGAGUCGUUUUUGGCUCAACAAUCAUCAUUUUCAACUUAAAACAUUUUAAACAAGUUUGAAAAACAUUUGACAUAAGGUUUUAGUUGAAAACAUGAAAUUAUUAAAUUUUAAAGGAUUUAAUACAAAAUUAAUUUUGGAUGAUUUUGGUGCAUAAAUUAAUAAUGUAAUGCAUAAAAGACCUAGUGCAUCAACAACCUUACAAAGAAAUCUUAGAAAGUUUAGGUCUUGAAAAACACUUCUUUUUUAAGUCUUUUUCUUCUUAUUGAUUACUCUUUGUCUUGAUUUUGUCUUUUUGAUUGACACUUUGGAAAUAUUCUUGCCUAAUCACACUUGAAAUAUAAUCAUUAGUGUCAAACCUUGUUUUAUUAUCAUCAAAAUCGAGAUUAACCAAACCUUGGUUUCACAAAUAUCUUGAACCUUUGACAGUCGAUGUUUUUAUAGUCUGCUUUGCAGAUUGUCAUUUUAAUGAGAGUGUUUUCCUGUCAUUAGGGAGAGAAAAUUCAAUUCCUAAAGAAUGGUGAGAAAUUACUUGGAAUGCAUCUACUAUGUUCCAUUUUGAUCCUUGUACAAAUCAAUAUGAACUAGAAGUUAAAAGGAUCAUUUAUUUGCAAAAUCUUGCAAACCAAUUACCAAAUUGUGGACCCCGCAUUUCGGCUGGCUCGAAUGCGUUUCCCACUCGAUGGCGAAACUCGAUUUUUAUUUGAAAAAUUGAUUUUUUAUUGAUUAAGAAAAAUGACUUGGAGUCGCCACUUAUUUUUGUUUUAUUUUUAAAGGGUAAACAAAAUAAGAAAGAAAACCCUAAGUGUGACUCCUGAUUUUUGGAAAAGGUGGUUUGUGAAAACCGGAUCGGGUUCGGGGGUCAGGUUACUUAUCGGGAAGGUACGGUAAAGACCGUAGCACCCCUCUAAGUCCCUAAAGUCGGGUCUCUACUAAUAGAAUGAAGCUAACAUGGCGAUGAUGAGGAAAUCAAUAAAUACUCAAAUCAAUCAUGCACAUAUGAGUAUCAAAACAUGCGUAUAGCAAGACCAGAAUAAGGACAGAUGCGUACCUGGGCAACGAUCUUCAAUGCGCUAUCAAGAAGUGAGAUUAGUGCACAAUUAAAGGAUGAUCACAUGCAUAUCAUAGAGCAGAAUAAAUCAUGUAUGGCACCCAAAUCAACCAAACAAUCCAUCAAUCAUAAAAUCUCAUAUGUUGGGCCCCCACCAAAACCCGUUUAUUUUUGCAUGAAUUAAUUCCGUAAAUUCCAUUGUUCGGAAUUACGGAAUUUAAAUUCAUGUUUAUUUUAAAACAUUUUAAAAACAAAGAAAAUGCAAAAGUGGCUUGCCGGAAAGAAAAUGGCAACCAAAUUUUAUUGAAAAUGAGAUUUUUGGUAUCUUAAAAAAAAAACGAAAGGUGAAAAAGUAGAGGAGCCGGGAUUAUUUGAAAAGAUGAAUUGAAGAUAAUAUUUACAAAACGGGACAUGGGGCAAUUGUUUUAAAAUCAAAGAUGAUGAAGAAUAAAAGAAAGGAGGACACGUGCCUAAGGCUGCAUGCAAAAAUACUUGAGUGGGGGAGUUGGUGAGGAAUGGUCGCGCAUGGAUGAAAUCCUGAUCAUAACUGUGCUUACUCGAUCAACUUGUGGAUUGGGAUCAUCAAAUUCUGAAAACCCUGCGUAAAACUCAAACCAUUGAAUGUACCACCAUCAAUCACAGCGCUGCUGACCUUCUUAAACAGCCCGUAUGGUGCCUCUAUCUCACUCACACUAAAUACUGCUUCCCUUGCCAGAGCUUCAGGAUCAUGAAGACCUCUUGCUUGAUUCUGCAGAGAAAACCUGAAGAGGAAGAGUGAAGAUGCCAGGGUACCUGAAAAUCCUCAUUAUCAAGAACAUGAGUGACAGCCUUUGCAGGCCUUUCUUGACCUUCUUGCAUUUCCAGCACAUGAGCAGCUGCAUCCCCACAACUCCCAGAUUUACCAUGUUUCCUAGCAUAGCAUGAAUCAUCAGAAUCACUGUCACCAGCACCUUCUUUGACCAUUAUCAAAUCAACCCACAGUUUCUCUUGUUUUUAGCUCUUCACUUCCGUCGUUCAGUGUAAAGCCAUUGAAAUGUUGAAGGCGCCGAGAUGGGGAAUAAGCUUGCAUGCGGGCUUAGCAACAGCCUGAUUUCCUCUUCAGUAAAUGAAACUAACAGCAGUAACCUUUAAGGGAUUGGCAAUGAGCAUCAAAUCCCAGCACAAGAACAUCCACCAGUUAUUUCUUCAAAUUUCCAUGAUCGAGGUGAACAAUGAUAGGAGUAUCAAUCCUGUACUGACAUAGCAGAGAAGAAUGAAAUCCAUUGCCAGUGAUAGUCCUCAACAAACUUUACCACAAUGCGAGAGGUGUAGCAGCCAAGGACUGGGGCAUAACCAUUUCCGAUUUUGGCCAUAGUGAUUCUUAGUUAUCAUGUCUGGAUGGCCUGGUGGAACCCUAGUAGAGACUCCAUUCCAACCACGUUUUCAGAUUCAGAAAACUCUGAUUGGAAAGAAACCUUAAGCCACACCUUGAAUUGAUAUCCAAACUUCAAUUUUUCACAAGAGAAUUUUGAUUCGCAAAAUCGGUCAAGUUCAUUUCCCUUCACUUCCCUGAAAAUCUGGAAGCUUCCUACAAAAGAUCCUCGUCUGAAGUCGAGAAGCUAGAAAGCUCAGAGAGGUUUUCCCCGUAAGACGCCAACCUCAUAUUGAGAACCUCAGUCUAUGAAUCAAGCUGCGUUUUCUCUCCUGCACCGUGCCGUGGAUGACUCCCCACUCUCUGAGGACACCAAAACUCAGGGAUGACACCCUCCGCACACCCACAUACCUCACCUAGCUUCCUGUAAAUCCCCUUCUCUAGCUCGCUUCCACUGCAUAAACCAUCUUUGCACCUGCUUGUGCUAACCAGAUCACAAGAAUGCCACUCCCAGUUCCUUUUCAAUCAAAAUCAAAUUCGAGUAACAAUUGAUCUCUCCAACCAGUUUUUCCUAUUUCAACAAUAUCUUCCGCAGCAUCAAGAAGAAUUUGGAGAUAUAUCAGCAGCCAUGGAUGAGAAUAUCUGUGAUUAAGACCAACUCGGUCAACAAAGGGAACCCACAAUUCUCUUCGCGUGAUUGCAUGGCUACACAGUCUCUGAGAAGCAUAGAUCUAAAUAGUGCACCAAACGCUUUCAUGCCUUACAAAGAGGCCACGUAGGAAUCGCCAAUACCCUGUGGCCUUGAUGCGGCUGCUAAAUGAGCUCACCACUCUGGCUGCUCGACAGGGAAAGCUGCUGGCCUGGGCACUCUUCACUUUCUGCCAGAUUGAAGGCUUACUUGAUGAAUGAGCUUCACGAAUGUACAAGGUGGAAAAGUGAGGGUGGCAACUAUAGGGUGUAAGAAAUGAGUAUGAAUGAGUCCUAUACCCGUGGGUAUAGUGAGAUAAAGCAUGAUGGAAUAGAAAUGGGCAGAGACAAUGUGGAUAUGGGACAUGGUGGAACGAGCAAAGUGGUUAGGCUAUUGAUGGUGAGCAGGGUACGGGUGAAGUGAUGUGUAUGGUGCAUGAGGGUAUAGUGAGUGGGCUAUGGAUGACAGAAUUGGUGAGAAAAAUGAGUGGAGAUAUGCUGAGUGUAAGGGAUAGGAAGGGUGAUGAGAAGUGGGUUAAUGGUGAUGUGAUAGAUAUGUGAAAUUGGAAAAUGAGAAAGGUGAUAGGUAAAAGAAAUGGGUAUGGAUAAUGGCCGGGUUUGCAUGGUUCCAUGCACAUGGGUAGAUGGACCUGGGAAGUCAACAAGGGCUUUAGAAGGAGCUUUGGACAACCAUGCAUGUGCAGAGGUAGGUAUCAAGGAGAAUUCAACCUCACUCUGAUCAUUUAGAACGGGCAAGUAUCUUAGCAGUAGCAUCCUUCAUAGUGGAUUUCUCUGCUCAUCUGGCAUGUACCAGAACGCAUCCAGCACCUUUAAAGAGUGAUCUAGCACCUUCAUUCUUCAGGAUCUGUGAGAAUGCAUCGAAAGAGCUCUUGUAUUUGACAGCUUCGCCUGAGAUCAUCAUCAUCCUUCUACGCGCUGUAUCUAUUGGGUAAUAAGCCAAUCCUGUACCUAUUGUGAUUCCUUAUCCCAGCAUGAAACUAGCCAAGAGACUAUCCCCUCAAGACAGGCCCUGGCGCAUAGUACAUCUCCACAUCUGUGUACAUCUGGGCAUAAUGCGUGUCACCCUGUUUGCGAGGCAGCUUAAAGCCUGGUUCAGGAUAUAUCAUUGUUUCGACAGGAAGCUUGUACAAUCGAUGUGGGCAGAGCCAAAUUGGGUAUACCUCCCUCUCAUGAGAUACCCAUUCUAGAGCAUCUACCUCGCCCAGAAUCUGCUCCACAAGGUAAAAUUUUCCAUAAGAAUCAUCAAAAGUAGGAUUGCUUCCUCCAGAUUAUUUCUCGGUACAUAUGAACCAUCCAUCUGAACAACUAAACUGGGUGGUGCAGCUGCAUGGAACAGUUUUGCUUGCAAUUGGGCAAUUCGUUCUUGCCUUUCUGGUGCUGGAAACCAUUCUGCUUCCUUUGGAUUCUCAUUUUCCACCUCACUAAAUAUAACCUCAGUUACACCCUGUUUGGACAUGCCAAAUUCGUCUUUCUAUGGUUCUGUUAGAAAAGCCUCUGCUUCAGGAGCUUUACCAAGUGAUCCUUUCCAAUGCGUGGAUACCUCUCCACUAAACUAUUGUAGCCUAGUGGGAACGGGAAGCCGUUGUCAUUUUCAUCCCUACUGCAUGCUCCACUCCUCUUGAAAUCUGACUCGUCUCGGUGCAGGGAGACACAGAGGCCAAAUCAACAUGAGUACAAAUAGAAGGAACCCCGACAAAGGUAAUGUGAUCAGGUUGAGUUCUUGAUUUGAAUAGCAGCCCAGAGAACUGAAGAGCCUCGUCAGCUUGGGCAUUCUGAACAUAACCAAUAAUUAGGGAAGUCCAUGGUACUAAAUCUAGUCUCAGCAUCUCAUUGAAAACAUGUCUUGUCUUCUUAAUAUUCCCACACAAUGUGUAUAUGUGAACAAGCGUACUAGCUGCAAAUGAUAACAGAUCAAACCCAAUCCUCGUCAUAUACCCAUGAACCUGCUUACCCAAUUCUUCCGCAACGAGUUUCUCCAAUCCAUAAGCAUCUUGAGACCCUCUUAACCCCCAUUGAUCAUGGAAAACUCAAGCAUGCCGAAGCUGAUCAUCAUAAUAACUGGAUGGUUGGACUACAUGAACCCCAUUCCUCCCAUAUUGGCAACAAGGUUAAACGCAUGGUCAAACCCAACAGUGACCUUCAAGCAGUUGCUCAUCACCUUGAAAUCAAUCAAGAUAGGAUUCAUGACAGAACACAUCUUCAGUCAUAGGCCCUCUCUUCUUCCAGUCAGAAGCAAUAAUGUAGUGGCCCUCCGUCUUCAGACUCCGAGCAAUAUGAAAGGCAAUAAAGCCAUCAGCACCAGUGAUUGAGAUCUGGAACUUUUCAGAUUGUUAGUGUGGUUCCUUCUCAAGCUCCUCAUAGGUGUACCCUUCGUAAGUGGCUCCAUCGGUACUUCCCAUUCUCCUCUGUUUUCUAAAAAACGACUGUGAAUACUUCCCCUCUCAAUAUCUUAAGCUUGUUGUCUUUCCACUUGUUCUACAAGAAACAUGGCAGUAUCUUGAAGAUUUCUGAUGCCAAGACCCCUCAAAGCAACCCCCGAUUUAGACAGCCAAACCCAAACAAGAUGCUCAACACUCCAAGAGAGAGAUAACAAGAACAGGGGAAAGAGAAUGAAGAAAAAUAAAUAAAUAAAUAAAAACAGAGCAUGCAUGAGGAAGAACGAUGCCUUGAAAUCCAAACUCCAUUUUCAUGAAUACUAAGAGACUUGCAAAACAAAGUGGUGGGAGAAUCUUAACACGCUAAUAAGUAGCGCAACCAUUGUAAAUACAUACAGAGAAAUAAAGAUGCUCAACAAGUAACAAUGAAAAGCAAGUUUAACAGCUUAGAUGACCAAAGCAAGCAUCCACUAUCAGUCGGAAACCUAGUAAUGCAGUAAUACUGGAGAAUUUAAAGUGAGGAAGGAUCAAACCUGAGCGGUUCCUCCCCUGCCCUGCUAACUUCCUCUCUCGGCUCCCCUCGAAAAACCUCCUCCUCCCUCUGUUUUCCUCCCAAAAUCUCUCUCUAACGGCUUGCUCUCAAACCACCCUCCUGCAGCCCCAGGUACCGUCCCCACUACCAUGCAGCUGGCAGCCCCAAAAGCACUCUCUCCUCUGCUCACCUCAACAACCUACAGCUUUUGCAGAUUCCUCCUUGCCAGGUGUCAAUCUCUGAUUGGCUUUCAAAAAAACUGUUCUGAUUCCAUGAUAGCUAAUCAGGGAUUGACACGUGGCCUCCUAGAAAUGCUCCAUCUGGCCAAAUAAGCUGCAACAAAUUCAAAAAGAAAGUGCUCCCAAAAUGGGGGUCUACAAAUAUGCCCCUCUUCGGUAGAGUUCACGAGUGUAAAGAACAUGAACACUGGAGUGAAAAGUAAGUGUGAAUAGUGAGUGCAAUGAAGUGAACUCUAUCGAAGAACCAAGGAGACCCCCAUAGGGACACUAGUGAGAUGUGAACUCACUCAGGCCAAAAGACAAACACAAAGGCUCUAAUCCUAAAAGAGAAAGAUGGGUGCCUCAAAAUGCCUCUAAAGCCACACUAAGGAUCCAAGCUCCCUCUAAAACGUCUCCAAAAGUGACCCGAAGAUCGAUGUCAAAGGUGAGUAACGGUCAAACCACCCUGGAGUACGAACAAGAAUGCGUAUAAAGGAGACUGCCCUAUGUGGACUACGAGAUGAAUAAGCGAUAAGCACAGGGUAACGAGGGGAGAGUGAGAAUAAGUGCAAAUCCAUGAAGGUGAGACGUGCAAUGCCAGAGAAUAUGAAUGCUAGGAGCUGUGACUUUGAAUGACGAGACUGACUCUAAACGCUAAACUAGAAAAAUAAUGGCUCUGGAAGCCAAACCAAAAAAAACUAACUCUAAACGCUAAACUAGAAAAUAAUAGCUCUGGAAGCCAAACCAAAAAGCUAACUCUAAACACUAAACUAGAAAAUAAGAAAAUAAAGCUCUGGAAGCCAACCAAAAAGCUAACUCUAAACACUAAACUAGAAAAUAAGAAAAUAAAGCUCUGGAAGCCAACCAAAAAGCGAACUCUAAACGCUAAAAUCGAAGGCGCAUAGGUGAAGACCUACGGUGGUGAUAAUAACUGAAACAAAGGCUCAUGGAUGAAAAUCCAUGAUGGUGAAUCUGAAAUGCCCAUAGAUGUCUGAUCUAUGGUGGUGAAAUCUGAAAUGCCCACAGAUAAAAAUCUAUGGUGGUGAUAAUCUCGAAAUGCCCAAGGAUGAAAAUCCAUGGUGGUGAUAUAAUCUCAAAAGCCCAAGGAUGAAAAUCCAUGGUGGUGAUAACUGAAUCAAAGGCUCAUGGAUGAAAAUCCAUGAUGGUGAAUCUGAAAUGCCCAUAGAUGAAAAUCUAUGGUGGUGAAAAUCUGAAACAAAGGCUCAUGGAUGAAAAUCCAUGAUGGUGAAUCUGAAAUGCCCAUAGAUGAAAAUCUAUGGUGGUGAAAAUCUGAAACAAAGGCUCAUGGAUGAAAAUCCAUGAUGGUGAAUCUGAAAUGCCCAUAGAUGUCUGAUCUAUGGUGGUGAAAACUGAAUGAAGGGGGAUGCCCUAGACAAACUAAUGGUAGGGGGAUGUCCUGAACAAGAUGACAAUAGGGGGAAUGCCCUAAACAAGAUGACAGUAGGGGGACGCCCUAGGUGAUAACUCAUAAAGAUCGACAAAUGCGUCUGACAAUCAUGAAAUCAGCACGAGACAUGGCAAACCCAAAGAGAGGGGAAUGCCCCAAGUCAAGCGCUAAAGGGGUAUGCCCCAGUGUGACGACUCACAAAGAUCAAGAAAUAGGUCGAGUAAUGAGAGAAGUCGGCAAAACGUCAAUGAACUCAAGGAUGGGGGUAUGCCCCAGUAUGACAACUCACAAAGGUCAAGAGAUAGAAUGAACAGCAAGAGAAUCUGCAAAAGAUCUGGUGAACUCAAGGAUGGGGGUAUGCCCCAGUGUAGGAUAGUAACUAACAUGAGACACGGAAUCUCACCAAACAAGACACUCUGGGAUAUGCUCAAUGAUGAUGCAAUGAAAAGGAUAUACAUAGCCUCAAUGAACAAACGCUAAAACAAGUCCAAACAUCACUGAAAUCAUGCUAACAAAGUAAAACUAAAAUAAUGGAUCAAACAAAUGCUGACCAAAACUCUAGGUCUGAAAUGGAAGCAAAUCAAAACACGACAUGUCAACUAUCAAUAUGAGUACAUCAUCACAAGUGCAUCAACAAUCUAACAGGCCCUACCAUCACGGAAGAUGUUGAACCUAAUGUCCAAAGGCAUGUGAAAGCUCGACCAGAAAGCCGAGACUAGCCCAUAUCUUCCCCUGAUCAAGAGAAAGGGAUAAGGUCAUGUAAGACGAUGAAAUAUGUGGGCUCAAAAGAUGUAAGGCUCUGAUAAGAUGGGUGCAGAUAUAAUAGUGUCCAAUGUAGGAUGUAUAGGUGUGUAACAAAGGAAAGUGGGUACCCAAAUCAAACUAGGUAUGCUAAGGAGACUGAGCCCAGGGUGCCAACAACUCUAUAAUCCAUCGAGAGCAGCGAUCAUAAACAAGAAAUGGAGUCUCAAUGUCAAAAUCAGCAAGGUGGCUAUGCCCCAGUAUGAAUGCAUCGUCUCAGAGUGGGUAAGCUCUCAAUGCAGAAUGAUCUCCGGAAAGUAAGUGUCUGGUAUAAACUGUCAUCUCACAAAAUCAUCGCCAAGACGAGUGGGGUAUGCCCUAGUGUAAGCAUCUCCAAAUCAAACAUCCAUGAGAAGAAUACAACCAAUCAUACCUCAUCUGAUCAAAAUGAACAUCUGCUCAUCAAAGCCAUCGUGGUAAUGUGAAGAGAAUAUCUGACCUCCCCCAAAGAAAAUAGCAUGUCCCAAUGUGAACAACCGCCAAUGAAAGGGUUAUGCCCCAGUAUAGGGCAAACCUUGAAAUGACUAAACUCCGCAGUAUGCUCUCAUAAGUGUCCGUGUCCUGAUCCAAUCAUCUCAAAAAUAUGUCAACAAUGAUGAGAAGGUUAUGCUCCUGUGAUCAUAUCAAAGAAAUCACCCGAUCAUAUCUCGUACUCCAAUGUGAAAUGAAUCUAAUCGCCUCCAAGGAACAUCUAUGCCUAAAAACCACCAUCGACCGAAAGGGGUAUGCCCCUGUGUAAAGUACACUAGAUGAAACGCGCCAAUCAUGUUUCAUGCUCCAAUGUGAAGAAAAAUGACAUCUGAUAUCCUCCAAGGAAUGGACAUGGCUCAAAAAUCUGUCAUCGACUGAGAAGAGUAUGCCUCGACAUAAUGGUCAUCCGAUAAUAAAACUCUCUGAGAUGGCUAUGCCCCAGUGUAAGGUCAUACCAUAACUCUCGGUCUGUCACAAUCAGAAUGCUCUCGAAUCAAUCUCAAGUAUCGCUCACAUAAGAGCUAUCAAACACAAUGUGUGAUGUCAUGGCCUCAGGGUGGUCUUAAGACUCAGGACGUAACGUAGGCUAGGGUGAUAGGGUGAUAGAAAUGAAGGGAAACUAGGCCCAAAUACCCAAUGAUCAAAACCCAUGCCCUCAUGUAUAAAAUGCAACAUGUAUAGAAAAUAUCGUGAGCCAUGGACCUGAAGAUGCCUACUGUGAACAUGGUAACAAUGAUGAUGCAAUGAAGAAAAAUCGAACUGAUGACGAGAUGUAUAAUGAUGGCGCGAAGAGGGUAUCAAACCCGAAAAUGAGGUCACUGUAAGAAUGGAAUAAGGGGUGGAAUGAAAAUGAUGAAACAGAAGUGAAAACGAGGAUGAUGAUGAAGCAUAGAAUACGAGAACAAGUGAUGAUCUGCUCAAAUCAAAUAUGAAAGGAAGUCACGUCAAUAACGAACAUAAUGAUGGAAUGGACAAUGACCCAGAGCUCCUAAGAGAAGGCCACUCAUCUCGCUCUCAAAACAUACAACAAAAUGAAUACGAAGAAUGAAAGGUCCCGAGGAGCUCACAUACGAACUCCCAUGAAUAGACAUAUCCAACAAAGCGACCCCUCGAACACUAAUAUACACAUACUGAAUGAUAGAGAAUAAUACACACAUGUGCCUCUUUUCUUUUUAUCUUUUUUUUUUUUUUUUUUUUUUCAAUCAUUUUUUUUUCAAUUUUUUUUUUUUUUUUACAUAUAUGCAAAUAUACAUGUUCUGAAUGCAAACCAAGAAAGACCCAAAGAUGGGAUCAAAAGUGAAUAAACAUGCCCUCAAAUAUCAAUAUAUCACAAACUCUCUCUAAUGAUGUGACCCUCUCAAGCCAAGGAUCCCUGGAUCAACGUCCGUAGGAUAGAUAAUGGAAAAUGACAUGACUACCCUCCAUGUAAUGAACUGAGGAUGAUCACCAUUCGGGGUGGGAGAAGAUGAAGCGAAACAAACGAUAGAUAUAAUAAAGAAGAGGAUGAAGAACCAACGAGAUGUCACGAAAUGCAAUGACGCAAUGAUAGGAAAAGAUAAUGAGAAAGAUGUGCCCCUAGGUCCAAGGCUCAUGAAACUCCUAAACAAUGCAUGCAUACACUGAAGGGCCCCUAUCCCGGUGUAGAAGGUGAGCAAGGCUAUAAGAAAUAAAAGGCUAUGAUGCUCAUGAGAGGCUCAAAGGGCUAGCAAUGGUCUAGAUGUCAAUAAAGGUAAUAGGGUGUGAGCUAACCGAAAUGAAGGCCACCCAUCUUACGACCACGGUCUCAAACAUCAUGCUAUCAAGCCCUCAAAUGAUCAAUACUAAAGAUCGAUGUCCAUCUGAUAUAACCACGUCAACCCUCUAGAAUCAUCCACCAACCGUACUCCAAAUGCAAAGUAAACUGUGAUCUCAUCAAGCAAUACUGCCCAUCACAAGCCAACUCUCAUCAUACAAUAUCAAUCUCUAUACUCACGAUAAGAUAAGUGACAGUCUCAUCAAGCAAUCGACCAAUCCUCAUAUCGUAAGCCACCCAAAUAUCAUAAGCCAACUCUCGCCAUGCCAGAUCAACCCUGGGCUCGAACUCCUCACACUCUACCUGGUCGAAUCAGAGAAGGGAUGUGUAAAGCUAGAAAAGCCGAGGAUGGAAAGGUCAUAUAACGGUCUCAAGGGUGAUGCUGUGCAAAGCUCGUAAUGGAUGGAUGUAGGUCAAAUCAAAGGCAAGGUGUGGGAAGUGAGCAAGGUACUGCUAUGAUCAUAAGAAGAUGUGUCACAGUCUCGAACUCCCUAGGUCAAAUCUCUGAUCCUAGGCUAAUAGGCUCAAUAUCCCCCAUGACAGGUCACUCCUCAAGACUACAACGUGCAAGUGAAGAAAUGCCUCAAGUAAAAAUCACAACACAUCAUAUCACAAGACACAAACACAUGUCCAUAAAGGAAAAGACAUCCAAUAGGAUAACCGAUGAGUACAUCAUGCAAAAGAAGGAUAACAAAGACAAUACUCAAGAAUCGAGUUAUAGUCUCUAAAAGUCAAAAUCAAAACAAGACUAAACAAACAAAAACAAAAACAGUGACUGGUCCUGCCAUCACAUCUCUGGCCAUAGAAGGAACAAAAUCUGAGCGCCACCUUACCAAGGUAAGUCAAUCGCCCAAAUCAAUAAGAUCAGGGAUUGCUGGUGAAGGGGUGUCUGCAUGCAUGGCCUGAGCUGAGGUAGGUAUAGAAAACAUAUCGGACUGAGGAUGCCCAAAUAUACCAGAAUCAACAAUGUCCUGUAUGGCAUGUCGUAGAGCAGUGCAACGAUCAGUGUGAUGUCCUGCUGACUGAUGGUAUAUACAAUAUAAAUCAAGUCGAAACUGUGGAGGCACAGGAUCUGGAAGUGCCCUAGGAGCCAGAGGAGCCAAAAGUCCCAUGGCUUGGAACGUCUCAAAAACUCUGCUCAGGGGUGCGCUCAAAUCUGAAAAGUGUCUCCGACAUCGUCGAUGGGGGUGAAAUCGCUCCCGAGGAACUGUAACGACCGGAGGGCCCCGAAGCUGGGAUGGAGGUCGUGCCAACAUAGCCAAUGAAAUGGAUGAGGAAUGCUGCUGGAGUACUAAAUGUGGGCGAGGUCGUGGAUGCGAGGCACCCAAAGUAACAGGUGUCGGUGAAGUCAAGUGUGGCAAUGAAGGUAUCGCUACUCCUGGAGCUCCUCUCGAUGACGAUGGAUGCUCUGACAAAAUAAGCUCAAUCCUCUCAACCCUCCGUGUCAAAUCCACCAUCAUCUCAUAAAGAGCAGUAAGAGUAAUGGGUGUGAUCUCGUCCGACAUGGUGAACCUCAACUGAAGAAGUCUAAUCUCAAUGUGCUCUGUAUCAUAACCAUCAUACCAUCAAUAUCUGCUCGGGGACCAGUCACGACACUAAAACUGUCCAAGACUCUAAAACAAACACAUGCAAAAGACAAAACAAAGCAACACAAGAUGCUAACACAAGAUAACAACACAUAAAAUACAUGAUACGAAACAAUGAUAAUAAUAAAAUAAAAAAGACAAAAACAAUACCCAAGAAAACAACAAUAUCACUAAGUGAAAUGAGAGUACAUCAUGCAAAAUAAUAGGACAACAAAGGUCUACUCUCGAAGCACAAGGUGCGAACUCAAAACACUAACUAUAAAACAAGACUCAAAUACAAAAUAAAAGAGAACAAAAACUCAAACGACCAACUAACAAUGUAGUCCCAAAACACACCAACAAGGUAUGCAAUAUCAAAGUGUCUGGUGAAUAUCAGUGCCCUAGGUGUCCAAAAUGUGAUGGUAUAAGCCCGAAGGAGGAGGAACUGCAUGUGUGGACUAAGCUGGAAAGGAAUCAGUAGACAUAUCUGGACCAAGAUCAGUGUCUGUAGUCGAUAUGGGAAAGCUAACUGCACCACUGUCAAUAAGAUCUUGUAUGGUGUGACGCAGAGAAGCACAAUAAUCAGUACGGUGGCCCGCCAUCUGGUGAAAUGCACAGAACUCAUGAGCAUGAAAACGCGGAGGCAAGGUACUCGGGAGUGGCCUAGGGGCCAAUGGUACUAAAACACCAGUAGAUCGGAGUCGCUCAAAAGCUCUAUCCAAAGGUAUCCCUAAAUCAGAAUAAGUCCUCUGAUGUCGCCGAUGGGGACGAGACUGCUCAUGCCGUGGGAUGCCAGUCUGUGGACGCUGAAACUGAAAUGAAGGUCGCACCAUGACAGCAUGAGGAUGCGUAGAAGGGUACAACUGAACUGGAUGAGGAUGACGAUGCUGUAAAGGUGGGAAAUCACUCCUGGGUAUCUGCAAUGAUCUCGCAUAGGAAUGAUAACCAGGUCGUCGAUGCUGAAAGUCCGUAGAACAUAUGUCUCCAUAGCCCUCAGAUGAUCCACCAACUCUCUUUCCCUCAGUAUCUGGGGAAGGAAUAAUAUAUGACCAUAAUCCUCUAGAUAUGCCAUCAUCUACAUCGAAUAAAGCCUGAACCAAUGAUCUGAAAUCCUGGAAUGGGACCCCUGUCAGAUGUCGAGCAAACCUAGGAUGCAAGCUCCUCAAAAACAUGCUCAUCUGAUCUCUCUCGGUAGGUCGCUCAAUCAUCUCCGCAGCCUUCUCCCUCCAACGAGAGAUAAAAGAAGAAAUAGGCUCAUCUGAUCCCUGUCUAAGAAACUCAAGCUCUCUACGUGUAACGCUCGUAUCACCACCGAAUGAAUACUGUCUCAGAAACUCCUGUGCUAAGUCCUCCCAAGUUCUCCGACGAGAUGACUCUAAUGAAGCAUACCAUCUCUGUGUCAUGCCGCUCAAUGACAAUGGGAACAAAGUGAGCAACUGUGCCUCAUCUAGACCAAGGGCCCUCAUAACCGUGCUAUAAAGUCUGAGAUGAAUACGAGGACAUCCGACACCCGUAUAUCUCUCUAUAUCAGGCAUCCUGAAACCAACUGGCAGAGUGGCCACUGGCACAUCGUCAGGGUCCUCCCAUGAGAUCAUCUCAUCAGGGUCUCUCAUCUGUCUAAUCCUCCGCUCAAGUCUGUCCAUACGAGAACGAGGAUCCUCAAUGAUGGUAACUGGUGUGACAAUGGGUGGAGUGACAGCAGCCUGAUCCUGUGAAGUAGUAUGCGAAGUCGGUGUAGUUGGCAUCUGAACAGGUAGAACAGGUGGUGUCACUAAAUCAGAUGGCGUGUCCUCGAGCACUACGUGCCUACUCUACUGAGUAUCCAUCCUCUAGCUCAAACUGGUCAAUGCCUCCUGAAUCGAAACCACAGAAGUGAUAAGCUAACCAAUCGAAACUGACUGUGAAUCUGUCUAUAGCAGCUCAACGAUACGAAUCAACAUCUCUCUCACUCAACCCAGGGCACUGAACUAAGACUGGGACCACAAAUAGACUCCUAUAGAAGAGCCAAUCAAAACGACUCAAACACGACUCAUGCAACGACACGGGAUGCAACGAACAAUGACCAAUGCAUGAUACAACACAAUCCACAACAUGACAGGACGCGACACACAAUCAUAUGGUGACAAUCAAAAUUUGGAUAGACGAUAGAAUCUCUAGAGUCACAUGAGUGUCCAAUGUGAGACAACUACAAAUAUGACUAAAGAAUUUCUAUCGAUAAUCCAGAAAAUGAUCGAGGUGUGAAGAAAAUAAAUGGGGUGUGAAGAACAACACUAUCACGAGAUCGAUACUCAAUCUAUAACAAAACAUCCCUUGAUUUUGACCUUCAACUCGGGCUCCAUAGGAGAAGAAAACGAUAAGGUGAUCCAGGCGAAUCUCUCGAAAAAUGUGUGAAUAUGAAAAUAUGCCUUUCACCUUUCUGUAAUGAAAAUAUGAGCAUCGAGUCGAAAAUCGAACCAAGGAUCAAACAAAGAAUGAGGUACUGAGCCCGUGAUAGGUGUACAGUGCAAAAAGAUGGUCAAUGAACAUAUCCCAAAGUAUCGAGAAGUGACGACAAAGUGAAGAGGUGUGCCGAGCCAAGAAAUGAUAACGAAGGCCCUAGGGAGAAAACAUGCCAAACUCAUCGAGUGAAAAACACAAACUAAGGCGACAAGACGAAAGGUGACCCAACCGUACUCAAACUCAUACCGAUCUCCGAGCACUCUCAACUGGAGACUAAAAAGAGGGAGUGUCAAAUCCGAAGUGUAACCACAGAGGCUCUGAAAGCCCUCAGAUGCACCCACGUGUAGGGAGGGAGUCCUAAUCGAAGGAUCUACGGCUCAACCUAUGAGGUCAAGGUGGCUCUAAAUGGAUAUGGGUGGACUUUAAAACAUCCCUAGCAGAAGCGAUCAUACCCUCCGGCGGUACGCAACCCUCUGCACGCCUCCGAAGAGACGGGGCGCUUCCAUGCAAGGUGGUCAUCACCUCCACACAUGCACUACCUCGCAUCCCAGGGGGUUUCCUAUGGUGAAACCUCUCAAACUCUCAACGCUCAAUGGUCGACUAGAGUGCACAAUGAAUGGUGUGGGUGCAUCCGAAAACCCUAGGAAGCUAAAACAGAAGAGGAAACACACUGGCUACACAAAUAUCCAUGAAACCUAGCUCCGGGCUAUACAGGUCUUCAAUGAUCGGACUCCAAUCGACAUCAAAGUGUCGCUCUCCUCCAGAAUGCUCCCGUGCAUCGAUAUAGCCCGUCGCUAGACCCUACUCCUAAUCUCUGGCUCGGUCAGAGAGCAAACACACAGAAGGUCUCACACUUGCAAUAGUGAGAACUGGGAUGAAAGGAAUGACCGAAACCAAGAGAGUUGGAGGUAAGGGGAUAUAUAUGCGGCCCACAGAGACAGGCGACAUGCAAUCAUGCAGAGGAAGGGCAGUCAUGCAUCAUAUAGUCAAUCAGAGUACAAGAUAUAUCAUUCAUGCACGCAUACAAGCUAUGAGAAUCAAGAUGAAUAGUGAUAAGAAUACCAUGCUCAAAAGACGAUCAAGAUAAUAUGCAAGCCAGAGAAUCGACAUGUCAAAUCAAACCAACAACGAAUCCAUACAUGCAAGGCGGUCAGAAUAAUCAUGGCAAAUAUCAAAAUCACUAUACUAAGCGAAAUAAGAUAAGCAAUCAAUACAAUCAGCAUGCCAAUACCUCAAACGAGCAUGACAAUCAAGCAUAGAGAAAAUAGCUGUCUCAGAAUCCUCUAUCAAUACGAAUCAAUCAUCGUAAUCAAUAUGUCAAAUAUCUCAAACAAAAUAUAUCAAUGAAGCACAAAGAAAAAUCACUGUGUCAAAAUCCCUAAUCAAGAUAAUCGACUAAUAUGAUCAAUCAUGUCAACGUCCCAAGUGAAAACUCGAGAACCCUCAAUGUGCAAUCAAGAAGUGAGUACCCACUGAUAGACUCAUCAAAUACCAUGUUUGCUUCAUCUUAAGUUCAAGCUUGACCCUCUAAUGAUCCCCAGUGGAGUCACCAUUUUGUGGACCCCGCAUUUCGGCUGGCUCGAAUGCGUUUCCCACUCGAUGGCGAAACUCGAUUUUUAUUUGAAAAAUUGAUUUUUUAUUGAUUAAGAAAAAUGACUUGGAGUCGCCACUUAUUUUUGUUUUAUUUUUAAAGGGUAAACAAAAUAAGAAAGAAAACCCUAAGUGUGACUCCUGAUUUUUGGAAAAGGUGGUUUGUGAAAACCGGAUCGGGUUCGGGGGUCAGGUUACUUAUUGGGAAGGUACGGUAAAGACCGUAGCACCCCUCUAAGUCCCUAAAGUCGNNNNNNNNNNNNNNNNNNNNNNNNNNNNNNNNNNNNNNNNNNNNNNNNNNNNNNNNNNNNNNNNNNNNNNNNNNNNNNNNNNNNNNNNNNNNNNNNNNNNCAUCCCAGGGGUUUCUAUGGUGAAACCUUCAAACUCUCAACGCUCAAUGGUCGACUAGAGUGCACAAUGAAUGGUGUGGGUGCAUCCGAAAACCCUAGGAAGCUAAACAGAAGAGGAAACACACUGGCUACACAAUAUCCAUGAAACCUAGCUCCGGGCUAUACAGGUCUUCAAUGAUCGGACUCCAAUCGACAUCAAAGUGUCGCUCUCCUCCAGAAUGCUCCCGUGCAUCGAUAUAGCCCGUCGCUAGACCCUACUCCUAAUCUCUGGCUCGGUCAGAGAGCAAACACACAGAAGGUCUCACACUUGCAAUAGUGAGAACUGGGAUGAAAGGAAUGACCGAAACCAAGAGAGUUGGAGGUAAGGGGAUAUAUAUGCGGCCCACAGAGACAGGCGACAUGCAAUCAUGCAGAGAAAGGGCAGUCAUGCAUCAUAUAGUCAAUCAGAGUACAAGAUAUAUCAUUCAUGCACGCAUACAAGCUAUGAGAAUCAAGAUGAAUAGUGAUAAGAAUACCAUGCUCAAAAGAUGAUCAAGAUAAUAUGCAAGCCAGAGAAUCGACAUGUCAAAUCAAACCAACAACGAAUCCAUACAUGCAAGGCGGUCAGAAUAAUCAUGGCAAAUAUCAAAAUCACUAUACUAAGCGAAAUAAGAUAAGCAAUCAAUACAAUCAGCAUGCCAAUACCUCAAACGAGCAUGGCAAUCAAGCAUCGAGAAAAUAGCUAUCUCAGAAUCCUCUAUCAAUACGAAUCAAUCAUCGUAAUCAACAUGUCAAAUAUCUCAAACAAAAUAUAUCAAUGAAGCACAAAGAAAAAUCACUGUGUCAAAAUCCCUAAUCAAGAUAAUCGACUAAUAUGAUCAAUCAUGUCAACGUCCCAAGUGAAAACUCGAGAACCCUCAAUGUGCAAUCAAGAAGUGAGUACCCACUGAUAGACUCAUCAAAUACCAUGUUUGCUUCAUCUUAAGUUCAAGCUUGACCCUCUAAUGAUCCCCAGUGGAGUCACCAUUUUGUGGACCCCGCAUUUCGGCUGGCUCGAAUGCGUUUCCCACUCGAUGGCGAAACUCGAUUUUUAUUUGAAAAAUUGAUUUUUUAUUGAUUAAGAAAAAUGACUUGGAGUCGCCACUUAUUUUUGUUUUAUUUUUAAAGGGUAAACAAAAUAAGAAAGAAAACCCUAAGUGUGACUCCUGAUUUUUGGAAAAGGUGGUCUGUGAAAACCGGAUCGGGUUCGGGGGUCAGGUUACUUAUCGGGAAGGUACGGUAAAGACCGUAGCACCCCUCUAAGUCCCUAAAGUCGGGUUUCUACUAAUAGAAUGAAGCUAACAUGGCGAUGAUGAGGAAAUCAAUAAAUACUCAAAUCAAUCAUGCACAUAUGAGUAUCAAAAGAUGCGUAUAGCAAGACCAGAAUAAGGACAGAUGCGUACCUGGGCAACGAUCUUCAAUGCACUAUCAAGAAGUGAGAUUAGUGCACAAUUAAAGGAUGAUCACAUGCAUAUCAUAGAGCAGAAUAAAUCAUGUAUGGCACCCAAAUCAACCAAACAAUCCAUCAAUCAUAAAAUCUCAUAUGUUGGGCCCGCACCAAAGCCUGUUUAUUUUUGCAUGAAUUAAUUCCGUAAAUUCCAUUGUUCGGAAUUACGGAAUUUAAAUUCAUGUUUAUUUUAAAACAUUUUCAAAACAAAGAAAAUGCAAAAGUGGCUUGCCGGAAAGAAAAUGGCAACCAAAUUUUAUUGAAAAUGAGAUUUUUGGUAUCUUAAAAAAAAAACGAAAGGUGAAAAAGUAGAGGAGCCGGGAUUAUUUGAAAAGAUGAAUUGAAGAAAAUAUUUACAAAACGGGACAUGGGGCAAUUGUUUUAAAAUCAAAGAUGAUGAAGAAUAAAAGAAAGGAGGACACGUGCCUAAGGCUGCAUGCAAAAAUACUUGAGUGGGGGAGUUGGUGAGGAAUGGUCGCGCAGGGAUGAAAUCCUGAUCAUAACUGUGCUUACUCGAUCAACUUGUGGAUUGGGAUCAUCAAAUUCUGAAAACCCUGCUUAAAACUCAAACCAUUGAAUGUACCACCAUCAAUCACAGCGCUGCUGACCUUCUUAAACAGCCCGUAUGGUGCCUCUAUCUCACUCACACUAAAUACUGCUUCCCUUGCCAGAGCUUCAGGAUCAUGAAGACCUCUUGCUUGAUUCUGCAGAGAAAACCUGAAGAGGAAGAGUGAAGAUGCCAGGGUACCUGAAAAUCCUCAUUAUCAAGAACAUGAGUGAUAGCCUUUGCAGGCCUUUCUUGACCUUCUUGCAUUUCCAGCACAUGAGCAGCUGCAUCCCCACAACUCCCAGAUUUACCAUGUUUCCUAGCAUAGCAUGAAUCAUCAGAAUCACUGUCACCAGCACCUUCUUUGACCAUUAUCAAAUCAACCCACAGUUUCUCUUGUUUUUAGCUCUUCACUUCCGUCGUUCAGUGUAAAGCCAUUGAAAUGUUGAAGGCGCCAAGAUGGGGAAUAAGCUUGCAUGCGGGCUUAGCAACAGCCUGAUUUCCUCUUCAGUAAAUGAAACUAACAGUAGUAACCUUUAAGGGAUUGGCAAUGAGCAUCAAAUCCCAGCACAAGAACAUCCACCAGUUAUUUCUUCAAAUUUCCAUGAUCGAGGUGAACAAUGAUAGGAGUAUCAAUCCUGUACUGACAUAGCAGAGAAGAAUGAAAUCCAUUGCCAGUGAUAGUCCUCAACAAACUUUACCACAAUGCGAGAGGUGUAGCAGCCAAGGACUGGGGCAUAACCAUUUCCGAUUUUGGCCAUAGUGAUUCUUAGUUAUCAUGUCUGGAUAGCCUGGUGGAACCCUAGUAGAGACUCCAUUCCAACCACGUUUUCAGAUUCAGAAAACUCUGAUUGGAAAGAAACCUUAAGCCACACCUUGAAUUGAUAUCGAAACUUCAAUUUUUCACAAGAGAAUUUUGAUUCGCAAAAUCGGUCAAGUUCAUUUCCCUUCACUUCCCUGAAAAUCUGGAAGCUUCCUACAAAAGAUCCUCAUCUGAAGUCGAGAAGCUAGAAAGCUCAGAGAGGUUUUCCCCGUAAGACGCCAACCUCAUAUUGAGAACCUCAGUCUAUGAAUCAAGCUGCGUUUUCUCUCCUGCACCGCGCCGUGGAUGACUCCCCACUCUCUGAGGACACCAAAACUCAGGGAUGACACCCUCCGCAAACCCACAUACCUCACCUAGCUUCCUAUAAAUCCCCUUCUCUAGCUCGCUUCCACUGCAUAAACCGUCUUUGCACCUGCUUGUGCUAACCAGAUCGCAAGAAUGCCACUCCCAAUUCCUUUUCAAUCAAAAUCAAAUUCGAGUAACAAUUGAUCUCUCCAACCAGUUUUUCCUAUUUCAACAAUAUCUUCCGCAGCAUCAAGAAGAAUUUGGAGAUAUAUCAGCAGCCAUGGAUGAGAAUAUCUGUGAUUAAGACCAACUCGGUCAACAAAGGGAACCCACAAUUCUCUUCGCGUGAUUGCAUGGCUACAUAGUCUCUAAGAAGCAUAGAUCUAAAUAGUGCACCAAACGCUUUCAUGCCUUACAAAGAGGCCACGUAGGAAUCGCCAAUACCCUGUGGCCUUGAUGCGGCUGCUAAAUGAGCUCACCACUCUGGCUGCUCGACAGGGAAAGCUGCUGGCCUGGGCACUCUUCACUUUCUGCCAGAUUGAAGGCUUACUUGAUGAAUGAGCUUCACGAAUGUACAAGGUGGAAAAGUGAGGGUGGCAACUAUAGGGUGUAAGAAAUGAGUAUGAAUGAGUCCUAUGCCCGUGGGUAUAGUGAGAUAAAGCAUGAUGGAUGAGAAAUGGGCAGAGACAAUGUGGAUAUGGGACAUGGUGGAACGAGCAAAGUGGUUAGGCUAUUGAUGGUGAGUAGGGUACGGGUGAAGUGAUGUGUAUGGUGCAUGAGGGUAUAGUGAGUGGGCUAUGGAUGACAGAAUUGGUGAGAAAAAUGAGUGGAGAUAUGCUGAGUGUAAGGGAUAGGAAGGGUGAUGAGAAGUGGGUUAGUGGUGAUGUGAUAGAUAUGUGAAAUUGGAAAAUGAGAAAGGUGAUAGGUAAAAGAAAUGGGUAUGGAUAAUGGCCGGGUUUGCAUGGUUCCAUGCACAUGGGUAGAUGGAUCUGGGAAGUCAACAAGGGCUUUAAAAGGAGCUUUGGACAACCAUGCAUGUGCAGAGGUAGGUAUCAAGGAGAAUUCAACCUCACUCUGAUCAUUUAGAACGGGCAAGUAUCUUAGCAGUAGCAUCCUUCAUAGUGGAUUUCUCUGCUCAUCUGGCAUGUACCAGAACGCAUCCAGCACCUUUAAAGAGUGAUCUAGCACCUUCAUUCUUCAGGAUCUGUGAGAAUGCAUCGAAAGAGCUCUUGUAUUUGACAGCUUCGCCUGAGAUCAUCAUCAUCCUUCUACGCGCUGUAUCUAUUGGGUAAUAAGCCAAUCCUGCACCUAUUGUGAUUCCUUAUCCCAGCAUGAAACUAGCCAAGAGACUAUCCCCUCAAGACAGGCCCUGGCGCAUAGUACAUCUCCACAUCUGUGUACAUCUGGGCAUAAUGCGUGUCACCCUGUUUGCGAGGCAGCUCAAAGCCUGGUUCAGGAUAUAUCAUUGUUUCGACAGGAAGCUUGUACAAUCGAUGUGGGCAGAGCCAAAUUGGGUAUACCUCCCUCUCAUGAUAUACCCAUUCUAGAGCAUCUACCUCGCCCAGAAUCUGCUCCACAAGGUAAAAUUUUCCAUAAGAAUCAUCAAAAGUAGGAUUGCUUCCUCCAGAUUAUUUCUCGGUACAUAUGAACCAUCCAUCUGAACAGCUAAACUGGGUGGUGCAGCUGCAUGGAACAGUUUUGCUUGCAAUUGGGCAAUUCGUUCUUGCCUUUCUGGUGCUGGAAACCAUUCUGCUUCCUUUGGAUUCUCAUUUUCCACCUCACUAAAUAUAACCUCAGUUGCACCCUGUUUGGACAUGCCAAAUUCGUCUUUCUAUGGUUCUGUUAGAAAAGCCUCUGCUUCAGGAGCUUUACCAAGUGAUCCUUUCCAAUGCGUGGAUACCUCUCCACUAAACUAUUGUAGCCUAGUGGGAACGGGAAGCCGUUGUCAUUUUCAUCCCUACUGCAUGCUCCACUCCUCUUGAAAUCUGACUCGUCUCGGUGCAGGGAGACACAGAGGCCAAAUCAACAUGAGUACAAAUAGAAGGAACCCCGACAAAGGUAAUGUGAUCAGGUUGAGUUCUUGAUUUGAAUAGCAGCCCAGAGAACUGAAGAGCCUCGUCAGCUUGGGCAUUCUGAACAUAACCAAUAAUUAGGGAAGUCCAUGGUACUAAAUCUAGUCUCAGCAUCUCAUUGAAAACAUGUCUUGUCUUCUUAAUAUUCCCACACAAUGUGUAUAUGUGAACAAGCGUACUAGCUGCAAAUGAUAACAGAUCAAACCCAAUCCUCGUCAUAUACCCAUGAACCUGCUUACCCAAUUCUUCCGCAACGAGUUUCUCCAAUCCAUAAGCAUCUUGAGACCCUCUUAACCCCCAUUGAUCAUGGAAAACUCAAGCAUGCCGAAGCUGAUCAUCAUAAUAACUGGAUGGUUGGACUAGAUGAACCCUAUUCCUCCCAUAUUGGCAACAAGGUUAAACGCAUGGUCAAACCCAAUAGUGACCUUCAAGCAGUUGCUCAUCACCUUGAAAUCAAUCAAGAUAGGAUUCAUGACAGAACACAUCUUCAGUCAUAAGCCCUCUCUUCUUCCAGUCAGAAGCAAUAAUGUAGUGGCCCUCCGUCUUCAGACUCCGAGCAAUAUGAAAGGCAAUAAAGCCAUCAGCACUAGUGAUUGAGAUCUGGAACUUUUCAGAUUGUUAGUGUGGUUCCUUCUCAAGCUCCUCAUAAGUGUACCCUUCGUAAGUGGCUCCAUCGGUACUUCCCAUUCUCCUCUGUUUUCUCAAAAACGACUGUGAAUACUUCCCCUCUCAAUAUCUUAAGCUUGUUGUCUUUCCACUUGUUCUACAAGAAACAUGGCAGUAUCUUGAAGAUUUCUGAUGCCAAGACCCCUCAAAGUAACCCCCGAUUUAGACAGCCAAACCCAAACAAGAUGCUCAACACUCCAAGAGAGAGAUAACAAGAACAGGGGAAAGAGAAUGAAGAAAAAUAAAUAAAUAAAUAAAAACAGAGCAUGCAUGAGGAAGAACGAUGCCUUGAAAUCCAAACUCCAUUUUCACGAAUACUAAGAGACUUGUAAAACAAAGUGGUGGGAGAAUCUUAACACGCUAAUAAGUAGCGCAACCAUUGUAAAUACAUACAGAGAAAUAAAGAUGCUCAACAAGUAACAAUGAAAAGCAAGUUUAACAGCUUAGAUGACCAAAGCAAGCAUCCACUAUCAGCCGGAAACCUAGUAAUGCAGUAAUACUGGAGAAUUUAAAGUGAGGAAGGAUCAAACCUGAGCGGUUCCUCCCCUGCCCUGCUAACUUCCUCUCUCGGCUCCCCCCGAAAAACCUCCUCCUCCCUCUGUUUUCCUCCCAAAAUCUAUCUCUAACGGCUUGCUCUCAGACCACCCUCCUGCAGCCCUAGGUACCGUCCCCACUACCAUACAGCUGGCAGCCCCAAAAGCACUCUCUCCUCUGCUCCCCUCAACAACCUGCAGCUUUUGCAGAUUCCUCCUUGCCAGGUGUCAAUCUCUGAUUGGCUUUCAAAAACACUGUUCUGAUUCCAUGAUAGCCAAUCAGGGAUUGACACGUGGCCUCCUAGAAAUGCUCCAUCUGGCCAAAUAAGCUGCAACAAAUUCAAAAAGAAAGUGCUCCCAAAAUGGGGGUCUACACAAAUGCAUUCAUUAAUACAAAGAAAGUGACAAAGUCACAUAUCCCGACUACAAAUACUCCAACACAGAUUGAUGUCACUGUAGAACAAUUAACAAAUGAAUCUAAGAUUUGCUUGAAGCAUGGUAGACUUGUCAGCUCAAAGGAUAUAACUUCCUAGAAGAUGAGAACACAAGAAAAACUUUGUACUUUAGAAGAGGUCGUUAAAAUGACUGAUUAAUCUAAAAUUGAUAAAUCUAUAGCCCCAAAAGAGGCACGAAUAAUGCAAAAAGCACCUGAAGAGGCACAUAUUGAACAAAAAGCUCUUGAAAAGGCACAUAUUGAACAAGAAGCCCUUGAAGAGGCACAAAUACCUAAAAAUUGUGAGAUUUUAGUAAGUUAUGUACACAUGGGAGUAAAAUGGGAUUUAAAUAAUAUUACAAUUAACAAUAUUUUUCACUUUUCAAGUGGCCCAUGUAUCAUAAGAAAUGAUGAAGAUUCCAAACCAUGAAAUAUGGAAGAAUGCCGACAUAGAAAUGAUUGGCCAAAAGGGAAAGAAACUAUGCAAGAAAAGUUAAACUUAUUAACAAAACGAGAAUUGUUUGGACUUAUACUCUAAACACUUGAAGAAGUAAAACCUGUUAGGUAAAAAUGGGUAUUUGUAUGAAAACACAAUGAGAGUAAUGAAAUCAUAAGAUAUAAAGGCGAUUAGUAGCACAAGGUUUCUUUUAGAGACCAGGUAUUGACUACGAGAAAACAUACUCUCCCAUCAUGGACGCAAUCACAUUUCAUUUCUUAAUUAGUUUGGUAGUCUCAUAAGGACUAGAUAUGUGUCUCAUGGACGUUAUUACAACAUAUUUAUAUAGAUCCAUAGAUAAUGAUAUAUAUAAGAAAAUCCCUGGAGGAUUUAAAUUGCCUGAAACAAAUAAUACAAAGACUUGUAACAUGUACUCAAUCAAGUUACAAUGAUCCUUGUAUGGAUUAAAGUAAGUCGGACGCAUGUUGUACAAUCACCUUAGUAAAUACUUACUAAAAGAAGGGUAUGUGAAUAACCCUAUAUGUCCAUGCAUCUUCAUUAAGAAAUCAGAAACCGGAUUUGCAAUUAUUGUAGUGUAUGUUAAUGACUUAAAUCUUAUUGGAACUCCUAAAGAACUCAUAAAAACAAAAAAAUUACUUAAAAAAGGAAUUUGAGAUGAAAGAUCUUGGAAAAACAAAAUUUUCUAUUGUUAUCAAAUCGAGCAUUUUCCAAAUGGAGUUUUAGUACAUUAAGAAAAUUUUAAAGCAUUUUUAUAUGGAUAAAGUGCAUCCUUUAACUUCUCCAAUAGUUUUCUAAUCAUUUGAUGUGAAAAAGGACCCAUUCCGGCCUUGCAAAAAAUGUGAAGAAUUACUUGGUCCUAAAGUACCAUAUAUUAGUGCUAUUGGUGCACUUAUAUAUCUUGCCAAUUGUACAUGUCUAAACAUUCAUUUUUUUGUCAAUUUAUUAGCAAGAUACAGUUCCACUCCAACUCAAAGACAUUGAAAUGGUAUCAAACAUAUAUUGUGCUAUCUUUGCAGAACUAUUGAUGUGGGUCUAUUUUACUCAAGGGAAUCAAGUAAAAAUUGCAUAAAUAUACAGAUGCAGGAUACUUUUCAUAUCCACAUAAAGGUAGGUCACAAACAGGGUAUAUGGUUAAUUGCAAUGAUACUACUAUUUCAUGGAGAUUUGUCAAACAAAUAAUGAUGGCCACAUUAUCAAAUCAUUCAAAAAUUCUUGUAAUUCGUGAAGCAAGUUGUGAAUGUAUAUGACUAAGAUCUAUAAUCCAAUAUAUUCGGGAACCAUGUGGACUCUUAUCUAUCAAGAGUGAUCCGACAAUAUUAUUUGAAAAUAAUGUUGCAUGCAUUGCACAAAUAACAGGGGGUCAUAUUAAAAGAGAUAGAACUAAACACAUUUCAUCAAAUUUCUUUUAUACACAUGAACAUCAAAAGAGUGGUGAAAUUGAUGUGUAACAAAUACGCUCAAGUGAUAAUCUAGUAGAUUUAUUCACAAAGUCAUUGCCAACCUCAACAUUCAAGAAGUUAAUACACAAGAUUGGAAUGCAUCAACUCAAGGAUAUCGACAUGAGGGUGAGUAUGCUUGUAAAAGGAUGUUAGUGUACUAUACUUUUUUUCCCUUCGUCUAGGUUUUAUCCCGUUAGGUUUUACUAGCAAGGUUUUUAAUGAGACAGUCCUAACAUAUCAAGAGCAACUUAAAGAAUUAUUAGAAUAUUGUACUCUUUUUCCUUCGCUAGGUUUUUCCUAUAGGGUUUUUUACUAGCAAGGUUUUAAUGAGACAUAUUCUUCUAAUGUGGUGGACAUCCAAGGAAAAGUGUUAUAAAUGAAGUAAUGAAUACCACCACAUUUAUUAUAUUAAAUCUUCAUUAAUAUUAUUUAUGACUUCCAUUAAUAUUCAUUAAUGGAAGCCAUUUGGAAAGCUUAUAAAACAGUUUCCAAUCCCCUAUAAGAUGUAUCCCAAGGAAAGAAAGAAAUCCUCUCUCUUAUUCUUUAUGUAUUUCAUUCUUUCAACUCAAUUAAUUCUCUUUUCUGGUUCUUUCCUCCCCAUUAUAUUAUUAUUAAAAUAGUAUAUAGUUGUUCUCUGUUUUUAUUUGCAUUGCAUUUAUCCUCGUUUUACAACACUUAUUUUUUUCUUUUCUCUAUUUUUUUCUUCUUCUAGUUAUUAUUAUUAUUAUUAUUAUUAUUAUUAUUAUUAUUAUUAUUAUUAUUGUUGUUGUUGUUGUUAUUGUUAUUUUAUAAACAUAAUAUAACCUAUCAAAAAAUAAUAAUAAUAAUAAUAACACAUAUAUAAAUAAUAUAAUAAUUAAUUUACAAAUUAUUGUUUCAUUAGUUAUUAUUAUUGUUAUUAUUAUUAUAAUUAUUAUUUCAAAAAAUUUUAAAUAUUAUGUAUAACUUAUACAAUAAGAAUAAUAAUAAAAUAAUUUUACAAAUAUUGUUUCAUUCAUGUAUUGAAGACAAAGUUUUCUUAUAUAAACUUUCAUAAAUUAUCAAUUGUUUUUUACAAUAUGAUUAUUAAGAAAAUAUUACAAUAAAAAAUUAGUAUUGAUAAUUAUGAAAAAACAAAAUUAAAGCAUGUGUUAUUGUACUUUUAGUGUACUUAUAUUGUAAUUUCAAUGCAUAACUAUGACACAUACAUUUUGGAACAAACUUAUUAGUGUUCGAAGCAUUGUCUUUAUUCUACUAUAUUGAUUUCUAUAUUAGUAAGGCAUCCCAAUGAAUUAGCAUCAUAUACUAGAUGCAUUCUUAUCAGCAAUAAUUCUUAUAAUGAAACUCAUACACCUUAUAAAAAAAAUGUCUUAUAAGGUUAAUUUAUAGUAGAUGAAAUAUUAAAAAAUAUAUAAAAUAUGUGACAGCCAUUCAUCAAUGCUUGUUUAAAAGGAAAAUUUUAAAAUAAAGUUAGGUUAUGCAGUAAUGUAUAAGACAUUUAAAGUAUUCAUGUUGUAAGAUCAUUAUAUUUUUGUGGUACGUGUACAUUGGCUUUUAUAUUAAUACAUAAUAUCGGUGUACUAGCAUUAUACAUUUAAUGAAUCAUUAUUGUGCAUGAUUUUUAUAAUAAACCUAUAAGUUUUAAGAAUUAGAUGAAAGAAAAAUUAUAUUCUAAGAUUGGUUUAUAAUCAAUGACAUUAUAAUAAUAAAAAUAUGAAUAAUGAUACAUAUGGAAUAUUAAUGAUAUAAAACUAAUAUCAUAAAUAAUAAUAUUAAUAAUAUGUUAAUAAUGAUGAUAAUAAUAAAUAUAUAAUUAUAAUUUUUUUUUAAUAAAUAACAUAGUUAGUCUUAACAUAGAGUAAAUAAAGCACAAAAGGUUGAAAAGAAAAGUAGAAAAGUAAAGUUAUAUGGGAGUAGAAGGAAAAGACAAAAUGAUGUAAUUGGAAUUAUGGAAUGAUCAAAUUAUCAAACUAUAACUUGUGAAUUUGACAAGACUUUGAGACUUGGUGACCCUUGAGGGAGCUUAUCAUCACUUUGAGCUAGGUGACCAUUUUUUUUAAAAAAAAAAAUCGAAAAUAAAGGCCAUGAAAAAUUUAUUUAUAAAGAAUAAUAACAAUUUUGUAUUUUUUUUAUACAAAUUAGAUAUUUAAUUUAUUAGAAUAAUUUUGGUGGUAAUGACAAACAAAAUAACUCCUUAAAUAGGUGAAAUAAUUCAUUUUCUCAAUUUUAUAUGCAAAAGUAUUUUAAAACAAAAAGGAUAAUACAUUAUUUUUGUUCAUCAAUCCACAUUUUGACUUCCAUUUUAAAAUCCAUCUAUAAAAAUCUCUCUUUAUAAAUAUCUGCCUAGAUUGCCUAAUCAUCUAUUUGUUCAUUGUCUAUAACUUCUUGCCUGAUUAUCAAUUUAGAUGUUCAUAUUUGCGUAUAUUUAUUCAUUCCACCAUGGAUUUUGUUGGCUUAUUUGUAAUGUAUACAAUUUUGAUGAAUUGUUUGAUUAUUUGAGAACCGAAUUUCCCCUAACCCACCAAUAAAAUGCAAGUAAAAGUCCGACCAAGAGGGGUGUUCUUGGCCGGUGGCCUUCCUGAUAAGUCACCUUAGCCGUAGACUAGAUUUAGAUUUUGCAAUCACUAUCAUCUUGACCAAUCUAGCCAUGUACCAAAAAGUCAAUUUUGCCAAGUUUAAAAAGUUUGCUUUAAGCCUGUUCAUCAUAAUUGACAGAAGUUAGAAUUACAAUGAAAUAUCUAGGAGAAAAUGUCCGCAGGAGCAGAGAGAGAGAGUAAAGGCAAUACAUUCAGUCAUGAAUUUGAUGCAAAUCCCAAAGUACGUAAUUGUGUCGAAUACUCUCACCAUGAUUGUCGAUCUAUCGGAUCAGACGAUUACUAUGUUUGCCAAAAAUGCCUGGGCCGUAUGUGGAAUAAAUCAAUUCCACAAGGAGGGGAAACUGCAAAAUUCCGUACAAGGUCACAGGCAAACAGGCUAAUGCAGCCAAGGUAAUAAGAAUCCAUGCCUUCUUUUCACCAAAGAGAAGAUAGAUUGCGCUACUGUAGGCUAUCAUCAUGAAUGUUACGGAGAGGAAUAGAGUAACAAGGCCAAAUAUCAACCUCCUGGGAAGGGCAAAAAGAAAAUCAUCUUCUGCA
rnacentral:lncRNA from 1 species